rnacentral:lncRNA from 1 species
UCAAAUUUCCAACAUCAAUAGCAUGCGAAUUGUGAAGAUGGUUUGAUGAUAAAUCUAUUUCUAAGAUAUCUUUAAGAUUCCACAAAUUUGAAGGUAUUGCGGAACUCAAUUUGUUGGAAUUUAAGUAAAGAUAUCCCAAAGAAGUAAUAUUACCCAAACAAGAGGGUAUGGGUCCAUGCAGCUUAUUCAACCCUAAAUACAUCUUGUAUAGUCUCUCCAAACCACAGAGGCUUUCUGAGAUAGGCCCUCCUAAUUUAUUAGAGGAAAGAAAUAGACCUUGGAGAUUUCUCAUUCCUCCUAUUGAUGCUGGAAUCAAUCCACUUAAUUUAUUAUACCCAAGAUCUAAAAGCAAUAGGUUGGUUAAGUUACCUAUUUCCAUAGGAAUAAUGCCUUGAAGCUCACAAUUAUAGGCAUAAAAGAAUUGAAGGGAUUUUGAAAGGUUCCCGAUAUAAGUAGGAAGAACGCCACUCAAUGGAUUUCCUGAAACAUCUAUUGUUCUCAAAUUCCUACAAUUCGUCAAAGAAGAAAGAAAGCUCCACUCAUGAUCAGUAGCAGAUCCUGUGAUCAAAUUAUUGUCAGAGAUUUGGAACCAUUCAAGGUGUCUUAAGUUGCCAAGCAUUUUAGGGAUUGGGCCAGAGAAUAAGUUUUGUGACAAGGAUAGAAUCUUAAGCAUGGAAGCAUUGGAGAUAGAGUUGGGAAUGUUUCCGCUAAGUUUAUUUCCCCACAGUAAAAUAGUCUCAAGCUUUGGAGCAUUGGUAAUGGGUGGUAAAUUACCUGUAAAAUAGCAUCUUUUAGAAUACAUAUUCAUUGAAUACCAAAUUCACAAAAUAUAUAAUACAUUAAAAUAAAAACGGUAAAACUUUAAAUCAAUUAAGAAUAAAAUUUUGGUAUGGAAAAAUGUGAUGAAAUCAAUUAGAACGUUGAGACAUAAUAAGAAGUUUUGAGUAGUAAUUAGUCCUUCUGACUUGAAAAACUUGAAAAACUUGAAAAACAUAUAAUACAUUAAUAAUUUUUUAAAAUAUUGUAAAACUUGAAAUAAAAUAAAAAUAAAAGUUUGGCAUGAGAAUGUGCCAUCUAAUCAAUCUUAAAAAUGAGACUGACACUGAAUAAUAAUUAGUUAUGAUUUGAGAAACAAAAAUGUUAAAGUCAUUGUUUUUAAUGUAAACUGGUAUGAUUUUGAUCUAUUAGGUUAAUUAUUUAUUUUUAUUAAAUUAUAGUGUAAAAUUUAAAGAUUAUUAUUUGCUCAAAAUUUUUGUGUUUUUCGUAUAUUUGAAAUUAAUCUUUAUACUUUUUAUUUCCUGUGAUUUAGUCUCUCUACUUUUUGAAUUAAAAAUUUUAGGUUCAUUUAUUAACACUGUUAAAAAUUUUUUUGUGUUAGUAUGGCAUUUUGAAAAAUAAAAUAAACUUGAUAUCUAUGUUUUUAAUUAUUCUAAAUAUUGUUUACUAUUUCAAGAUAAAUUAUUUGUGUCUAGACCAAUAUCUUAAGAACUAUAAUUAUUCUAAAGAAUUGUUGAUUGAGUCUUAGCUGAAUUCUCCUAUUUAUGAAUUGAGGAGUUGGUAAAAUACUAAAUUUUGAUAUAUUUUAAAAUAUUAAAAAUUUAUUAAAAUAUUUUUAUAAAAAUUGAUUGUACCACAAUAUACAGUUUUAAUAUCAAAUUUUAAAUUUUUUUAAAAAUAUUAGCGAAUAUAUACUUUAUUUCAAGUUACACAAUUUUUACUAGUUUUUAAAUUUUUUAAAAAUUUUUAUCGUCUGUUAUAAUUUCUAAUAAUUUUUUAUAAUUUUUUACAAUAUUUACAAUUUCUAACAAUUUUUAAUAAUUUUAUUAUUUAUUACAAAUUUAAAAAUUAACAAAUUUUUAUUUUUUAAAACAAUUAUAUAUAUAAUGUAGUUAUUUUUUUAUAAUUUUAUUUGAAAUUUUAAAUAUUUUUUUGGUUUUUUAGAUGAUGAUGCCAUCAUGAUGUCAUCAUAUGUCACAUGGCAAUUUAUAAUUAGUUGAAUAUCUCAAUCUAUUUUUUUAACGUGCAAUGGACUAAAACAAGAACACCUGAUAAUGUUAGAGACUACACUAGGAAUGUUUGAUAAUAUUAGGUACUAAAGUGGGCAAAAAAAAUUAGGGACUAUAUUAAAAAUAUAUCUAUAAUAUAUAUAAAUGCAUGGAUUUUGAGAAACUUUUGAAAUGAUAAUUAUAUAGUCUUUGUUUUUUUUUCUAUAUUAUUGAAUUUUUUAUUUUAAAUAUUUUUUUAUUACUUUUAAGAUUUAUCAUAUGUAUGGAUAAGAAUUUUGGUUUUACUAAAAUAUUUGGUUAAAUAAAUUCACUUCAUAAGAAAAUUUAGGAUCCUUAUAAAUAACAAUUUUGAUUCUAUUAAAAAUAUUAUUUUAAAAAAUAUAUAAUAAAAAUUUAAAAUUUAUAUUGAAUUACUUUAUACUUAAAUUAUUAUUAAAAACUUUAUCAGACACAUACGUAUAUGAGAACCACGUAUUUAGAACAUAAAUUUGUGUUUUAAAAUAACUUAUGAUAAAUAAUGAAAUGUAUAAUUUGAAACUAUUUAAUAAUAACACAUGGCAUAUCUACCAUAUUAAAAUAAAAAUAGAUUAAAUUGUAAGUAAAACAUAAUUUAAACAAAUGAAUACAUCGAAUUAAGAAUACUAAAUGAAUACAGUUAUUUAUGAUGAUGUUGUUGUCAAUUCUUAAGUUGCUGUCGAGUUAAUUUGUGACAUCAUAAAUUUAAGUGAUAAAUUUAAGGUUUUAUGUAUUGAUGUGGAUUAAAAUAUCACCAUAAUUUUUAUUAAAAAUAAAAAACUAAAGUACCCUCAAAUAAUAUAACUUAUAUUAAAUAUGAAAGGGUAUUUUUAUAAUUUCUCUAACUGAGUUGAUGCCCGGUUGACUCAUGACACCAACUCAAUCAAAAGCUUCAAUAAUAAUAUAGAUAUUCACGUUAAAAAAAACCAAAAAAAGUACUUUAGUUCCAAAUAAUUAUAUAAUAAGUAAAUUUAUAAUUGAUGAAUAAAUUUAUAAAUAAUAUAUUUAUAUGAUCUAAUAUAUUAUAUUUAUAUUAAUUAUAUAUCAUCUACAAACUUUGAAGAUCAAUUUAUUAAGAAAAAAUGAAAUUGAAUUAACACUAAAUCGAUUUUUAGAUUUUGUCCAGAUGAUUUAAUGAUGAUAAAAAAAUUAUUAGCAGUAUUUUUGAAUUAACAAAAAAUUAGUGAUAUAUUUUAAUUAUAUUUAUUAUUUAUUAGUUUUAAUAAUGUUUUUUUAAUUAUAUGAAGUAAAAUUAUAUCGUAUACUAAAUAUGGUACAUAUACUUUAAUUAUAACUUGAAAAAUUAUUAUAUAAAUUAAUAUAUUUUAAUUAUAUUCAACCAUUUGAAUAACAAAAUUAAAAAAAAAACUAAUUAGAAUUAUUUACUUUUUAAAGUUUAAUGGAAAUUAAAAAUAAAAAAUAAAUCAAUUCAUAUAAAUCUUAUUGUUUAUUAUCAGAUUAAAAUGAUAAAAGUAUAUGACAUACAUAGAAGAAACAAAUUCAACACAAUGUUUUUGGAGUUUGGAAAAAAUUAAAGUGAAAAACAUACCUUCUAAUUUGUUGUUAAAUAGAUCUAUUUCUUCGAGCGUAGUUGAAUUAAAAAUACUUGAUGGAAUCUGACCUGCACACAUAGUCGAAAAUUGAAGUGAAAUCAAACUCUUUUGUGAAAAAAAUAUUACCAGAUAAUUCAUUCCAACCCAGGUAAAGCCCUUCAAGCUUGGGAAGAUGUUGACACAUAUCAUUAAGCAAACUACCUGAUAGGCUAUUGUUGGAGAGAUCAAUGGUCUUCAGAGAAGAAAUGUUGAAGAUCGAAGUUGGAAUCUGACCUGUAAGGCCUUUAAUUGCUUUAAUACUAAGCAUCUCCAAACCAAGAAGAUUACCGAUUUCCUCGGGAAUUUGACCUGCACACAUAGUCAAAAAAUCAAGGUGUCAAACUAUCUAUUUUGUUAGCAUAAGUCAAAGAGGUUUUCUUUUCUGUUCUACAGUAAUUUGGAGAUGUUAGAUUUUAAUAUAUUUAUGUUUUUCAUCAAAUGAAAUAAAAAGUUUUUACUUUUGUUAUCUAUUAAAAAUUACUCUUUUAUAAAAAAAAACUUUAAAUUCAAGAAAUCAAGGAAAUUGAUUACCUUCUAGAUUAUUAAACCCCAAAUAUAAUUCCUGGAGUCGUGUUAGAUUUCCAAUACUUCUUGGAAUGAUCCCCAUAAAUUGAUUAUAGGACAACAACAAAAUUUUAAGGUUGUUGCAUUUGCCCAUGCCAAAUGGAAUGUUACCAAAUAAUUCAUUCCAACUCAGGUGAAGCCCUUCAAGCUUGGGAAGAUAUUGACGCAUAUCAUUAGGCAAACUACCUGAUAGGCUAUUGCUGGAGAGAUCAAUAAUCUUCAGAGGAGAAAUCUUGAAGAUGGAAGAUGGAACCUGACCAGAUAAUUGAUUGAAUCCCAAGUUCAAGAUCUCUAGAUUAGACAUGUUAAUAAGUGUUUCAGGGAUUGUGCCUGUAAAGUUAUUAUUUUUCAUUUGCAGCCUUCGAACUCUCUGUAAGUUCCCAAGCCAUGAUGGAAUUUCCCCAUUCAGACGGUCGUAGCUUAAUUGAAGGAUCCUCAAACGAUGCAAUUGGCCCAAUUCUUUAGGGAGAUGGCCAUAGAAAUGGUUGCUACUCAAGUCGAGAGAGAGUAGAAAUGAAAGAUUUCCAAGGUGUGGAGGGAUAGUACCCCUAAGAUUCAUGCUUGUAAGAUUCAAAGCUAUAACUCUUUUAUGGAGGAUGCCACAAGAAACACCAAUCCAAUUGCAAACAAAGGUUGAGGUCGUCCAAUUGUUUGCCAAGACAUUUUGAGGACCGGCAAUGUGAUCCUUAAACUCAAGAAGUACAAACUGAUCGGAGUUGAGAUUGCUGACAGUCAUAGCCAAGCAAAGUACGGAACAUGGUAUGAAUAAAGCUAAAAGAAGAUGAAAGCAAGUGUUGUAGUUCAUGAUUGCAAGACGGAAUUAGCCAAGAAAAUAAAAAAAGUAGGAAAAGGGAAGUUGAGUUAAUAAAAUAAUUUGGAUGAUGAAGAAAAGCCCAGAGAGCAUGCUUUAAUAUGUUUCAACCCUCGCACACUUGAUAAACUUGAUAAAUUUAAGAAAUUUUGAAGAAAUUUCAAAAUAAAUGCCAAGUCUUCUUUAAAAAAUACGUACAAAGAAGCGAAUUUUCAAAAUUUCUCCUAAAUUUUCUUCACAUUACUCCACAUAAUCCACUAAAAAAACUUAAAAAAUAUAUUUUAAUAAUUACUAUAUAUUCUUUUAUUUUCAGAAUAAUAAAUUGUUUAAAAUAUGCUAUUAGUCCCUGUAAUUUAAAAGUUAAAAAAAUCCAAUCCUCCUAUUUUUUUAAUUUAAAAAUUCUAGUCCAAUCAUUUUUAAUUCCAUUAAAAAAAUUCAGCUUAAUAGAUUUUUUAUUAUCAAUCAUAUGCAACAUUAUAUGAAGGCAGUCUACUCAGUAUAUAUCCAAGUUUACAAAUUUUAAUAGAAAAUACUUACAAUCCUAAUGAAAGGACUAAUUUUUUUAAACUAGAAAAGUAAAAAAACUUAAUUUUUAACUUUUUUAAGUACAAGGAUUAAAUUUUAAAUGUUGUCAAAGUACAAGCACUAACAAAAUAUUGUGAUCUAAUAAAUGUAAAAAGCAUUUUAAACCAAAGAAGGUUGAAAUAAUCUAUUUGUCCUUAUACUUUGAUAAAAUUUGAGAUACCAUAAAAUUUGUAUCUUUUUUCGAAUUAUUUAAUGCCAUUUCAACAUUUUCAUUAAAAAAAAUAUCAUUUUGAAUUUGAUUUUUUCAAGAUGAAAAUAUUGAAAUGAUGUUAAAUUAUUGGAAAGAGAUACAAGUUUCAUGGUAUCUCUCUAAGAAAGCUGAUGUAAGAUAUUAAUGACAUCAUUUGAACAAAAUUUUAGGUCAAACUAUUCAUCUAGUCCUUGUAAUUGUUCUUUAAGUUGAAUUUCAUUAUUAUUCUUUUAUUUUCUUUGGCUUAAAUACACAUUUACCCCUAAUUUUAUCACAUUCUCCUUAAUUGGUAUUUAUAGUUUAGAAAAUUUUACAAAUAUAUUAUUUUUUAAGAAAUUAUAAGAAGAUUACAAAAAUUCCAAAAUAAUAUAAAAAAGCUAAGAAAAACCUAGAAAUUCAAAAAACAAAAAAAAAAAAAAUCAUGUUUUUACAAAUUGGGGUAUGCAAUCAAUUUUAAGAUGGUUUUUGGAGUUACAUCUCACUUUAGCAUUGACUUACUUUUCUACAGAUAGUCUUCUCCAACAAGUUAAAUAUUUCAAUUUUAACAACAUUGACAGGUCUUUGGGGUAGGGUCGAGCAAAACUCAAUAGAAAUAGAUGAUAUAGGUUGAGUUGGCUCGGCCAAGUCGAGUCGACUUCUUCAAAUUUGUUAAAUUAGUAAAUUUUAGGGUGCAGUUAGAAUUUUUUGUUUCGAGAUGCUAAGAUUAAAAGAUUUGAGUUUUGAAAACUUUGACUCCCUUUUUCUUUGAGAGUUGAUUUGAAGAGAAAAGAGCUUGAAGGUGCUUUUGUAGAAUUAGGACAAAUUUUAAAAUAAGGGCUAAAUUGGAAAAAAAGUUUUGGGGUUGGGCUAAUUUGAAAAUUUGACACUUUUGUGGGAUAAAAAUAGAAAAAUAUUUUGGUUGAAUACACACAAGGAGUUACAAACUUGAGACCUAUAGGUAGACUAAGGCCUUACCACUGAACCAACAAGCUCAUUCUUAUUAUCUUUUAACACAUAAAUUUUAAGGUAUACUAAGGGCUUGUUUAGCAUUGUUAUGAAGAAGCACUUUUGGCUUAAAAAACACUUUUGAGAGAAAAGUUGUUCUAAGCUAGUAACUUUUGGCUAAGAUUUUGGCUUUUCAAAAGCACUUUUGGCCAAAUGGAGAAGCUAAAAUUUUUAGCUUUUCUUACCCAAAAGCACUUUUGAGUGCUUAAUUACUAAUUCAUCCCUCCAAGAACACAUUUUAAAAUAAAAUAAUACAAAUAUGUUACUAUUUAAUUACAAAUAUUUAAUGGUUAUAUUUAAAUAUUUAAAAUAUAAUUUAUAUAUUCUAAUUAAAUUUUAUAAAUUAUUAAUAUUUGCUGCUUAAAAAUAUUUAAAAUUUAUAUUUUAUAUAUUAAAAUAUUAACAACAAAUUAUAAUAAAUUAUUUUUUAUAUUCUUACUAAAAUAUCAUAAUAUUAAUUCAUUUUAAUAUUAUUUAAAUGUAUAUUUGUUACUUUAUAAUAUCAUGUCUAAAAUUGACGUUUUAUUUCUCAAAAGCACUUUUUGACAUGAAUACUAAACACUUAAAUCUUAAACUAAACUUCUCAAAGAUACUUUUCUACAACACUUUUUAAAAGCACUUUCCAAAAUCAAUGCUCAACUAUCUCAAACUCUCUUACCUUACACUUUAAAAGAGAAAAAAGAUUUUAAAUUUUAUCCCUAUUUCUUUUAACCCAAUUUUUAGGAUGUCAAACAUUUAUAAAUAAAAUAAGAAAAAGGAAAACAAAAGCAUAGACUUUAUUUUUAUCUCAGGUAAAAGUUUUUAUGGAGAGGAUCAUGUAAAAUUAUGAUCUGAAUAAUUUUAAACAUUUCAUCAUUGCAAAAAUGAAAUAAUAGAAAAGAAUGACUAUUCGAAUUUGCAUUUGUGUUCUUUCUUUCAAUAUUGACUUUCAAAACUGUGGGAAAAUUUUAAAUUUGAUGAAAUUUUAUAAAUUUUAUGAAUUUGGGCUAGCCAUUUUAUUUAUAAUUUUCUGUGUUUUUCUUCUUUGCUGACAUUUUUAAUGUCAUUUUCUAUCAUGAAAGAAAAUUAAAGAUUCACUAUGUAUUUCUCAACCACUAUGAAAUUACUUGACUAUGGGGGUAGAAUUUUUUCACCAAUUUUCUAACAUGAGAUUUUUUGAAUGGGACAAAUAUUUCAAUUUUAACACAAACAUAUCUUUAGUUAUUGAGAGCGUUUCCCGUAAUGAGUCACCCCUAUUUGUGAGUGAUUUGGGGAUAAAAGCUUAAAACAUUUCUGGAUCACAUUGCAUUUAAGACGGGUGUUUGGAGUUAUAUGAAAUUUUAACAUAGACUGGCUUUUCUAUAAAGAGUACUCCUUGCUUUACUAUUGUCAUGAUACGAGGAGAUACUGAAAAUUAUUGUACUAUGAAAUUUUAAUUCACUCGAAAAAUAAGUGUUUUAUUUCAAGGGAUUAAUAUUAGCUUUCUCUUUUUUAAAUUUUGAAUUUUUUUUGACAACUGCGUAAUUAAGAAUAUAUCAAUUUUGGGUGUUAUAGGGAUGUUUUAUGUAUAAUCGACUCUUGAACGUUUUUUUUUUCUUUAGAAUUCAACACAUUCCUCAAAUUUUUCUUUUUAAAAGAUUUUUAAAAUCUCUUUAUAAAAUAUUAUCACACUUAACAAAGAUGAUCAGUGACGACUUUUCUUUAAUAAAAUAUUACGUUUUUCCAAAGACCAAAAUUUUCAUAUUUUUCAAGAAUUCCUCAAUCUAAUUUUCUUUUUGAAUUUUUAUUUUCAAGAGGAAAAUGAUCCCUACAAUUAAUAUUUAUUUUCUCCAUUUUUAAUGUUUUCUUAAGGGAGAUCAAUAGUGGAAUGACAAUUUUUAGUUAAGGUAAAGUAAAUUUAAUUAUCCACAACCUUCAACUAUUAAUUUUUUCGAUUUAAUUACACAAUUUUUUGAAAUUAACACUCUUUUAUUAGUUGUCGCUAGGUGAUGGACGAAAAGUUGAUUUGGACUUUUUGUUGACCUAAUAACAAAUUUAGAUAUUCAAAGUUUACUUAUUCUAUCAAUUUAAUGCUAAAUUUAAAAAAUUCAACAAAUCCUAUCAAAAAACAAUUGGACCUUGAGUACAUAGGCUGUGAGAUUUUCACAUGGCUGUGUCUACGCUGCACUCUAUUUUAUCAAAUUCAGACAAAGAGUUACACAGGCUGUUCACAAGGGCGUGUGCCCCCUUCACGUGGGGCGUGUAGACCUCCACACAGCUUAGGAACUUCCACAUGGCUGGGGCACGCGGUCAUGUGGCCUUGUUUUGUAGAUUUUUGUUCUGUGUCAAAUUUUGACUCGUUUUCUGCCUCUGUGUAUUCUGACCCCAGUUAAGACUUAGUAAGAAUGUUUAGGACUCUGAUUAGUUCGAAUUUUUGCAUUUGUUCGUAACUAAUGUGUUAAUUUAUUAGUUUGUGAUGUUAUUAACUAAUAGUUACAAACCUAAUUGAUUCUAAAUCUAAUUGAUUGAACUUGUGUGUUUUGUUUUUUGUAUGAAUGUUUGUAUGUUGUGUGCAUUUUGCAAUCGCAUAAAAAUUUUACGAUUGACUGACUGAAUAUGAGCUUCUAUAUCUGUGACACUAUUAGUGUUUGAUGUGCAUUCAUACAUAUGCAUAAAAUUGGGGUUUUGGUUAUGAAGAGAAAGGAGCCUGUUUCGGUAGUUCAACUGCAAUAUUUCUGAACAGUGGUUUACCACGUGAUUCUAUAUAUAUGUCAGCUCAGCUGCAUAUUAUGAUUUCGAGUGGCUUAGUUUCCACAUUGUAGUGUGUAGGGUGGAUGAAUCUUUUAUAGUUCUUGUAGUAGGCCCAAUUUGUUCGGGCCCAACAAACUAAGUUACAAACCCAAAAUAAACAUUACAAGCCCAAAAAUUAAAAAAAAACCUAACGGCCCAAGUAGCCCAAAACCUAACCCUCUUCAGCCGCCACUCCUCCCACGUGCCACCAUGUCAGCACCUCUGUACCCUCCACGCUCUCUCUGCCACCAUAGCAUGCGUCCUUGCCCCGUACCUGUAGACCAAGCAAAAGAGAGCACAACAGUAAAUAGAAAAACAUUGUAUUUUUCGGCUAUAAAAGCCAUGAACAAAUCAAUGUAAAUUUUUUACGACAAAAAUCAAUACAAAAAAGGCAAUUGAAAACAAAAAAGGUGGUUCUUUUGUUUUUUGUUUUUAUUUCUUUUCUACUUAUAUUUCUACUAGUUUUUAAGAAAAAUAAAAAAGAAUGGAGUCGAAUCUUACCCUUUUCUCGCAUUUGCACCGUUGUGGGGGGCCGAGGUUCGUCGUUUCCUAUGAAAAAUGAAGUUUUUUGAGUUGAGGAAGUCGAAAAGUCAAAAAAUGGCCUUCUUUGGAUUUUUUGGCCACCAUGGAGGGCAGCGCCAUCACCGCCGACUAGCGGUCGCCAUGGCAAUCCGUCGGUUAGAGCCAUGGUCUUAGAGGGGAGUUCAGAGAGAGGGGGAGAGUGAUUCGAGGUUUUUUUCAUAGAAUGAGGAGAAAGGAAAAUUUUUUAAAAAAUUGGUUUUUAUAAAGGAUUGAAACGGCGCCAUUUUGGGCCUUAACCCUAAUGGCCAAAACGACGUUGUUUCACCCCUUUAACCGGCGUGUGGACCCGACCUGCAAGAGGAUCCGUGUGUUUUUGUGGAAGGGUCUAUUUGCGCAUUAGACCCUUCCGCAUUUUUCAAUUGUCUUAAUCCAGUCCUUUUUUUAUUUUCUAAUUUGUACUUCAAAUUUUAUUUCAUUUUCGAUUUGGUCCUAGCAAAACGACGCGUUUCAGAGGGCGAGGAUAUUUCCCCAGUUGGUCCCUCUAAGUUAUUCGCGCCUUUUAAAUUAGUCCUCUACCUUAUUCUUAUUCUCAAUUUUUACCCAGUUUUUUGAUUAAACUUCAAUUUAGUCCUUCUGCGUCUAUUUUAUUAUAAUUUUAGCCCCUUUUAUAUUCAUAAACUUAUUUUAUUAGGAUUUGGACUCUUAAUUUUAGUUCAAUGUCAAUUUAAUCCCCUUUUAUCUCUGUCUAGGUUUUAUUUUCUUUUUUUUGCUGUGUUUUAUUUAUUUUAUUUAUUUGCUUAUCAUUUCUUUUUUAUUUUGAUUUUCAUAUUUAAUGAUGCUUUUAUUUUAUUCUUGAGUUUCAUUGUUGUUGUUGUUGUUGUUAUUUUUAUGGUUUUUUAUUAUUUCAUUUAUUUACAUAUUUUAUUCCAAAUUGUGUCUCUAAAUUUCGUUUAUAUUUUAAUUCGGUUCUUUACUUUCAAUACUUUUUAUAAACUAUUUUCCCUUAAAGUAUUUAUGUAUUUUUUGUUAAGUUGCUAUUGUCCUUUUAUGUGCAUACUUUGGCAUUAUUACCAUUGUUAUUAUUUAUUUUAUUUAUCUUUUGAUUAUUCUUAUUAAUGUUAAAGUAGUGUAUAGUAUAUGAUUCUCGUAAAUUGUCUUUAUUAUAUUCAUUAUUGUUAUUUAUUAAUGCAACAUUUCAUUCAUGUAUUAUUUUAAAUAUUACACAUUUUUACCCAAAUUUGUAAAAAUAUAAAAAUUAGAAAAUAAGCAAUAUUUCAUAUUUUGAAAUUUGAAAAGUCAUUCCCUAACUUACGGGGUUUCGAUUUUUUUGAUAAAUCCAAAUAUACGAACCAUUUUUUCAAAACACAUUUUUAAAAUUAUCUCGGGAAUUAAAAAGAUCGUUUUCCAACUUACGAAAUAUGAUUUCUUUUCUAAACUGAGAUAAUAAAAAAUUUCUAAAAAUAAAUAAAAUUUUUGGUGUUUAUUCUCGUUUCGAGAUUUAAGGUUAUAUCCUAACUCACAGGGUAUAAUUCUUUUUCUUGGUUGACGUAAAAUAUGCCCUUUUUUAAAUUCUUUUAGGUAAUUUUAAUAAAAGGAUCGUAUUUUAAGUCUAUUCAAAUUUUCAGCUUUCAACAUUAAGACAUUAAUUAAUCAAUUAGGUAUCAAUUUUGAGCGUGACGAAGGUGCUAAUCCUUCCUCGCACGUAACCGACUCCCGAAUUCAUUUUUCUUGAAUUUCGUAGACCAAAAUCAUUGUUUUAGUAAAAUCAAAAUGUUUUGUUAAAACGAUUGAAUUGCAAGGUGAUCCGAUCACACCUCAAAAAAAAUAUCGGUGGCGACUCCAGUUUUUUUUGUUUUUAUUUUUAAUAUAAAAGUCGACCCCUUUUUUAUUAAAAAAAUGGCUUCGACAGUUCUAUGUGGUGUGCAGGGUAAACGUGCCUUCUAUAGCCCUAAUGUGGUGUGCAGGGUGGUCGAAGUGGUGUUCAGAUGGUUGGGUGGGUUUUUGACUUAUUGCAUACGGUUUGCAUUAGGCAUAUGUGUCUGAUUAUGAUUCUCUUUAAUAUUAUUUGCAAAUGUUUGUACUAAUUUGAUUAUUACAUGUGUUUGAGACAUUGCUUAUGUAGUUUGGUACUGUAUAUUGACUUAUCGAUGUAAGAUUUUCGUAAGUGACCAUCAUAUAGUGCUUGUCUAAAAUAUUUAUGGUGUUAUCCCCUCUUUUACCGACUGUUGUGUUUUGGACUCACACUGAGCUCGCGUAGCUCACCCCCUUAGUUUUCUCCCUUUUAGGUACUCUCGUGUUCUGUAGCUAGACUCAACAUAUUAGAAGACUCAGACGGAAGAUAUGAAUUUGAUUUAAUAAAGUGUUUCGAUUCAAUUUUAGUUUUUCUAACUUGUUGGGACUAUAAGUGUUAAUAGGGACUGUGGUAUAAGUUUUACUUCUGGAUUUUCGUAAAUUUUUAUUUUGGGACUGAACUUUUGAAACUGCGGAAUUAUACUUUCUAAUGUUUUUAACGUAAUUUAAAAUUUUUGUUUGAAUCCUGAAUGGUUAAAUGACUUAGUUUGAUUUUAGCAAAAAUGAGUUAUAAAUGAGAUGUUAACAAUUAAUUUUGUAAAAUUAUUUUUAGAUCACUUCGGUGUUCAAAGUAACCUCUGAGAUUCGAUCCAUACUUCUAGGCCGAGUUUUGGGGUGUUACAUUAGUUUUCAAGAGGAGAUUGGUGAUGUACUUGAAGAGAGAUUGAUUUUGAAAACUUUGACUCCUUUUUGCUUUGAGAGUUGAUUUGAAGAGAAAAGAGCUUGAAGGUGCUUUUGUAGAAUUAGGACAAAUUUUAAAAUAAGGACUAAAUUGGAAAAAAAAGUUUUUGGGUUGGGCUAAUUUAAAAAUUUGACACUUUUGUGGGAUAAAAAUAGAAAAAUAUUUUGGUUGAAUACACACAAGGAGUUACGAACUUGAUACCUAUAGGUAGACUAAAGCCUUACCACUGAACCAACAAGCUCAUUCUUUUUAUCUUUUAACACAAAUAAAUUUUAAGGCAUACUAAGGGCUUGUUUAGCAUUGCUGUGAAGAAGCACUUUUGGCUUAAAAAACGCUUUUGAGAGAAAAGUUGUUCUAAGCUAGUAACAUUUGGCUAAGAUUUUGGCUUUUCAAAAGCACUUUUGGCCAAAUGGAGAAGCUAAAAUUUUUAGCUUUUCUUACCCAAAAGCACUUUUGAGUGCUUAAUUACUAAUUCAUCCCUCCAAGAACACAUUUUAAAAUAAAAUAAUACAAAUAUGUUAAUAUUUAAUUACAAAUAUUUAAUGGUUAUAUUUAAAUACUUAAAAUAUAAUUUAUAUAUUCUAAUUAAAUUUUAUAAAUAAUUAAUAUUUGUUGCUUAAAAAUAUUUAAAAUUUAUAUUCCAUAUAUUAAAAUAUUAACAACAAAUUAUAAUAAAUUAUUUUUUAUAUUCUUACUAAAAUAUCAUAAUAUUAAUUAAUUUUAAUAUUAUUUAAAUUCAUAUUUGUUACUUUAUAACAUCAUGUCUAAAAUUGACGUUUUAUUUCUCAAAAAUACUUUUUGACAUGAAUACUAAACACUUAAAUCUUAAACUAAACUUCUCAAAGAUACUUUUCUACAACACUUUUUAAAAGCACUUUCCAAAAUCAAUGCUCAACUAUCUCAAACUCUCUUACCUUAUACUUUAAAAGAGAAGAAAAGAUUUUAAAUUUUAUCCCUAUUUCUUUUAACCCAAUUUUUAGGAUGUCAAACAUUUAUAAUUUUCUGUGUUUUUCUUCUUUGCUGACUUUUUUAAUGUCAUUUUCUAUCAUGAAAGAAAAUUAAAGAUUCACUAUUUAUUUCUCAACCACUAUGAAAUUGCUUGACUAUGGGGGUAGAAUUUUCUCACCAAUUUUCUAACAUGAGAUUUUUUGAAUGAGACAAAUAUUUCAAUUUUAACACAAACAUAUCUUUAGGGUUAUAGUUUAGUUAUUGAGAGCGUUUCCCAUAAUUAGUCACCCCUAUUUGUGUGUGAUUAGGGAAAAUUUUAUUCAAAAUUAAUUAAUUUAAAAAUAAUAAAUAAUAAAUAAAUUUAUAUUGAAUUUUAUAUAUAUUUAUAACAAAAUAUAUUAAUUUUGGGGUUAUACUUCACUUCAGUCCACUGACUUUUCCACAAUUGGUUUAAAAGUUUAUCCCACCAAUGCCAAAUUGGUGCUUUAUCUCUUCUCUUAUUUAAUUUCUUUUAUAAUCAGAUUUGUUUUACUAUUAACUAAUAAUAAAUCAAUUCAAUUAGUAUUUAAUCAUUUUUAGGCUUCCUAAAUCCUUUGAGGAUGAUUUUAAAGUUUCUAAAGAUGAUUUUAAGUAGUCCCAAAAACCACUGGAUUUUUUAGUGACAUCCAAUUUUUCUUUUCCUGCAGUAUUGUUGAAAGUUAAUUUUCAGAACAAAAGUUUGCCUUACCAAAGAUGAUUUACCAAGACAUGCAUGUAGCAUGCAAAUAUGAAACAAUAAGAAAUAACUAAAAAAAAUGAUCCUUCAAAAUUAAAAAAGAAAGAAAGAAAGAAAGAGAGUGAGAUAAAUCUAAAAUUGCUUAAUAAGUCAUUUGAUAUUUGAAUUUGAUAUUUUUUAAAUAUUAUUUUCUUGUUUAGUGAGUUAUUUAUAUUUGAUAAAAGUUAUACAUCUUGGUAUCUAAAGUUAACAAUGUUAACAUUUUAGUGUUUAAUGUAGGUUUUAUGGUAGCGAUUUGAUGAAAAUUUCACUGUAAACUAAUAUUAUUAGCAAUUAACUUUCAACAAAUCUAUAACAAUCCCAAAUCCAGCCUAGACGCUAUGGUCAAACCUGGAAGGUUACAUCAGUACGUAGAAAAUUUUGUUCUUCCAAAUGUGUUUUGUUACUAAAUUAAGUCAUCCCAGGUUGCCCAAAAACGAUGACUCGCCACCAUGAGAUGCCCGACAACGAUGGCUUAUCAAUACGCAAUUAAACUGUUAGAUCAGAUAUUUGUGGUCAUGCCAUUGAAUUGCAACUCAGCUACCGAAACAAAAAUAUGUGGUGAAACCACUAUAUUGUAUCCAAGCUGCCAAAUAAAAAUAUGUGGAUAAACCAACAGAUAGUGCAGACCAUUAAACUGCCAAAAAUUCCUCCCUUUCAUAUUAUCCCAACCCCAUGCAAUGUGACAUGGCAUGCAUUUACAUAAUCAAAACGACAAGCAUGUAAGACAUGUAGUCGUACCAUAACAGAACUUAGAAAGCAUGGCAUUCUCACAAAUUCAACAAAAGCAAGUUGGUAUGCUAUAAAGUCACAUGCAUGAUCACAUAGCAGAAUCAGAAACAUAAAAAUAACGUAACCAAACCUCAUACCCAUAUACAAACAUAACAAUACAAAUCACGCUACCAGAUUCAUUAGAAAACAGUUCAUGCACACGAAUUUCACAUACCUUAUUCAUAUCACCUACAAUGUCAAAUUAUCAGACGUUACAUUUUCAAAGUCAGUUUUACACAGUACGAACCCUACAAAAUGGCUAAACAUGACUCACGAAUCAAAACGGGCCUAAACGAAAAUUUUUAGAAAAUGGGCCAACAUGGCCCAAUUAACCUAGGCCGUAUGGCGUCGACAGUCCAAUUUUCGACUUUCAGCAGUUCAUUAUUUUUUGAGUUUUUCGAUAUACAGCUUACUAUUUUCCGAAGCAAAAUCAUGGCAAGAAUUCCAAAACCUAAAAUCCAUAUUCAACCCACUCAAAUUAGUAAUGAAACCCAAAACUAAAUCGUUAAACAACCAAAACUGCUACCAAUAAACCUUAUCAAACCAGGAAUCAACCUUUUGGCAUCUGACUACUAACCCAGAAUAGUAGCAGCAGUACUAAAAAUCUCUCAAUUCACCGGAAGACUAUUUGUUACAGAAACGUCACCUAAACCAAAGAUUUCAGAGUAAUCAAAAUCGCGUCACACAAAGAAGGAAACAAAUUAACCCCAAAAUCGUGAAACUCAACAAAGUACGAAUCUUUUCACAUAUUCCUUACCACCAACCGUCAAGAUUGCUCAAAAACCACUAAUGACACCGACCUUCGCAAGGUUAAAUUGAAACCAAAAGGCAACUAAAGAUGGAACAAAGGUUGUUAUAAAAAAAUAUUAACAAAGACUUAUUGGAGCAAAAAUGGCGAAAAAUCAAGAAUAGGGAGAUUGGAAAAAAAAAAAAACAAUGAAACGGCAAAGAGAAGGAGUGGGAAAGCGACGACAGUUUGUGGAGAGAUUUUGGGUAAAUAAAAAGUAACUCACCACUCAACCUAUUAAAUCUGAUUACCCUCUAAACAGAUUCCCUUAAAGUUUAAAUUCAACCCAAAUACCACUACAUAGGCGGCAUAGUGUAAGGAAACAAAAAUAUUUCUACUUUGCACACACGGGGUCUUGAACACGAAACCUUAGGAUAAUUUGAAGUCUUGCCACUAAAUUAGUAGACUCAUCCUUGAAAUUAAUUGAAUGAAAAUAUUAUUUAUGUCAGAUGAUCAGGGAUAGAGUUUAAGACCAAAGAUGACAAAAAUUCAAAGGAAAGAUUUAAACCUAGAACCUCACACACACAAGCAUAACACCUAUCCACUGAACCAGAUUUCCUCCAUUGACAUAAUUUUCACAAUAUUAACUAAAAAUUCAGAAUAUGGUCACUCUUGGUUUCACUUAUCCAAUUUCUUCUAACCCGAUUUUUUUGGUGUGACAACUCUCACCUCUUUAAAAGAUUUCAUCCUCGAAAUUCCUGCUGUGACACCAUACACUUAACCACAAAUCUAAAAUUCCCUAGUCCAAAUCGACCACCAGGCUAUCAUUGUACAACUCUAAUAUCCAUUCAAGUCCGAUCCAGACAAUAUUUUAGAGGAAUUUCCUAUUCACUACCUCGGAUUACCUCAAUAAGCUUUCCACGGAAACAUAACUAAUGAUCCUUUGCCCCAAACUCUAAAAAACAUCAUUACCACAAAAUACAGCUACAAACUGUUGACACUAUUUUUUUGAUAAAACGGGGUCGACUUGGUUUUUGAAAAUGAAAACGAACACGGGAGUUGCCACUAGUCUUUUUUGAUGAGGUGUGAUCGGGCCACCUCAAAAAGUUGUUGUUUUUAAUAAACAAUUUGAUUUUAUUAAAACAAUACUUUUGGUCUGCGAAAUUCAAAAAAACAGGUUUGGGAGUCGGUUACAUACGAGGAAGGAUUAGCACCCUUGUAACGCCCAAAAAUUGGUACCUAGUUGAUUAAUUAGUGUCUUAGUGUCGAAGAUUGAAAACUUUGAAGAGUUUUUAAAAAUACGAUCCUAAAAAAAAACUCGAAUAACAUGGAUUGAAAUUUAAGAUUCUCUUGUUCUGAAGGAAUAUCACAUCCAGCACGUUAGGACACGAUACUUUAAAUCGUCGAAACCAAGAUCACUUUAUGAUUUCAAAAAACCAUACUUUGAAGUUUUAAGAGGAUAUUUGGCUAUUUGGUCAAACGAGAAAUCGAAACCCAGCACGUUAGGGCACGCUUUCUCGAAUUUCCAAAUGUAAAAUAUUGCCUUUAUUAUUUUUUAGAGAAAUCCUCAUAUCGAGAAAACAACAUGUCAUAUCCAAUGUGUUAGGACACAACGUAUUGAAUUCCCGAUACGAGAGUACAUGCCAAAAAUUUGCUUAUUUAAAAGAUAUUUAGCUAUCUAGGGUUUAAAAAAAAAGGGUUCAUGCCUAGUAAGUUAGGACACAAUCUUUUCUUAAUUCCCGAGAUCGUUUAAAACUUUUGCUUGAAAAUAUUCAUGUACUUUGAUUUAUUGAGAAAAUUGAAACCCCGUAAGUUAAGGCACGAUUUCUCAAAAUUUCGAGCAUGAAAUAUCACUUUUUUUUGAAAUUAUCAUUUUUGCGUAUUUGGAUAAAAAUUAAUGCAAUAAUCAUGCAAUGCACAUUACUUUUAAUACUAACUAAUAAUCAAAGACGAAUGAAAUAAAAUUAUAUAACAACAAUUUAAAGUAAGUAAUAAAAUUUAAAAAUGAAUAAUACAAAAGAUUCAAAGUACACAAUGUAAAAAAUUAAACAUAAAUAAAACAUAGAAUAGUUUGAAAUGAACAAUUUUAAGCAAUUUAAAAUAACAUUACAUAGAAUAGUUUAAAAUGAAUGCUAUAUCAAAAUAAAUAAUAUAUAUAAAAGUUUAGGAUAAAAUAACAUAGAAGGCAAUCCAAAAUAAAUAAUGUAUACGAAAAAAUUUAAAAUAGAUAAUAUCGAACAAUUUAAUGUAAAUAAUACAUAUAAUUUAAAAUAAAUAAAAUAUAAACCAUUAAAAAUAAUAAUAUAUAAGAAUUUAAACAAAAUAAAUAACUAACAAGCUAAAGAAUUAAAAUCUGGCAGAUUAGGGGACCAAAUCAUAACAAAAUGAAAUUUAAAAGUAAAAAUGACAACAAAAUAAAUAAAUGAGGAAUAAAAGACAAAAACGCUAAAAGGCCGAGGGUCAAAUGGGUAAAAUCCAAACCCGGACACAUGUCCAUUUUCAGUGCAUCAAUGGGUCAGGGAUCCGAUUGAAAACCACACAAAAUUGCAGGGUCAAAUUUAAAAGAGUGAAAAUAAACAAAAAAAGGGAGUAAAUUGAAAGGGGCAUGAACGUGAGGGGCCAGGGUUGCAAAUAACCAUUCAUGAAAACGCACGGAUCCUCCCUAGAGCGGGUCGGGUCGUGCGCGGGUGGCCCUAUACGGUGCCGUUUUGGGGCCACUAAAACAGGCCCCAAACGACGCCAUUUUGCGUCUCUUAUAAAAGCUAAACCUUUUUUUUUAACUCAUUUCUUCCAUUCUGUUUAAAAAAAAACCUCAUUCUCUCAACCCUCUCCCUUCCCCGAAUUUGGCAAAGAGCUCCGGCCGAUGGCCACUGUGGCUCCACCGCAGGUGGUGGUCAGAGCCACCAAAAAAUUAGGUUUUUAACCCCCUUUUUAAACCCCGUUCGAAGGCCGAGCCCUCUUGGCCUAAAAUACCGAAGGAAAAUGACCUCCUAUGCUCUUUCUCCGUCUGAUUUAGUCGACCGAAGGGACUCCCGAAGGCAGCCGCGGGAUCUGCCAGGUGAGCCCUUUCUCUUCCUUUUUAUUUUCGUUUACAAAAAUAAAAAAAUAAUAAAAAUAAAGACAAAAGAAAUAGAAAGAUUGAAAUAAAAAACGAGAAAUCACCUUGAAUUUUUUUUGGUUUUUAUUUACUCAAAUAUUCAUAAAAAAGGAAGAAGCGUAUUACAAGGGUGAGAUUUAGUUUUAUAGCCGAAAUACAAAACUAUUUUUCUCUAUUUUUAUUUGUUUACGAUUUUGUUGUUUGCUUGUUAUAUUCUCCUCUUGCGUGUGUGGUUUGCUCUUUGCAGGUAAUUGAUGUGACGCGGUAGACACGUGAGGCUGGCGAUUGGGGAGCAGCGGCGGUGGAGUUUGAUGCUAGAGCUUGCGGCUCUGGACGCUGACCAUGGGGCUAGGGUUUUUCUUUUUGCUGAAAUUUUUAGUUUGUGGGCUGUUAGGUUUGGGCUUAGGGUUAUUAAUUGGGCUUGGGUUGUUGUUUGGUCUGGGGUAUUUUAUUAGGUUUAUUUGGUUGUAAUGGGUAGGGGUUUUGGGUUUAUGUUUGGUUUCAGGCCCCGGGUCAAACUUGGGCUUGUACACAAACAAUUCUUAUCAAUGCAAGUACAUUUGAAACAUAUCAUAAAAGUACCUAUAUCAUUGUCAGAUGCAUCACAGCUCGCUCGAUACCUAGUUGCAUAUCCCCAUCUCAAAUUUUGUUUCUAUGCUGAAGCUUGUACCCCACUAAAAUAGUGUCGUGAGCAAUCCCAAACUCGAUGCUCAACGGACCCACAUGUGAAACACGGUCCUAUUUUCCUCCAACAAUCGUCCGAAUGGUGCCUAUCACAGUAAGUACAAAUCAGAACCUCAACCGCAUUCACAAUUGCCUCACCCCGUUGAAGCUUGUCUAUUUUAGCCCGUUUCCUUGGUCAUGGAUUCAAGUCAAUAGAACCAUCACUCAUCUUAUUUCGCGGUUUAUUCAUUACUUAUUCUCUCCCUUCGAGUAAUUACUCUAUACCGCUAACUUGACUUGAUACGCUUGAGAUGACUCAAUCAUAGACUCUUGUCCCAUAUAUCCAAAUUGGGUUCCAUCGACCUUUUGCAAAUCUCUAAACACCUCUUGGAACACUGAAACAUCCCCUACUUCUAAACUGCCCUCAAAUUUGGGCGUCAUAACAAACUUAUUUAUUUUCAAAUUGGGCUUACUGCCCCAAGAAGAGAACUCGGCUCGAGUCACCUGGCUAUGUUCACCACAGCCUCACACAUCAUGGCCUCGAGUACUCAUUAUACUAAUCUAUAGUUUGAGAAAUUUUAUAAAUUAGCUUAGGUUUAUUAAAAAUCAUAAGUCUAGAGUUUUAUCAAAGUUUCUUACAUAAUUACCAUAGUCUUUAGCUAGAGUAGAGUAAUCCUAGCACUUAAGUUUUGCUAGUUUGUCUAGUAUAGGUAAAGUAAAGAUACUUACAGGAUCGACGAUGUAGUUUUGGAUUCUCUUUUUAUAGAAUCAAAUAUAAAAAUAAUCAAAAUCUAUUAGAGACCCAAAGUAUCAAAAUUAAUCAGAAAUUCAAUUUAUUUAAAGCAUAUUUAAUGGAGAUUUUCGAACCCAAAAAUCACAACCCGAGUUUUGUUACCUUGAUCUGAUACCACUAAAUGUAACACCCUAAACUUGGCCUAGACGUUAUGGCCAAAUCUGGAAGGUUACACCAGUAUGAAAAAAAAUUAUUUUUCCAAAGUGUGUUUUGUUACGAAAUUGAAAACCAAAAUUUAGGUAAGUUUGUCAUGAUUCCCCGAUAGCAAAAUUUGUAAAUUAUCAAAACGUAAAUGUGAACAUAUUAAUUAUUAACUUAAAAAAAACCUAGCCUUAUACAAUCAAAAUGCUAAAAUCAUUUGCUUUGUAAAACUUGUAAUUUUGACUAAAAUUUUUGCAACGAAAAUUCCAAACUAAUAUUCGUAAAUUGUAAUUUCGUCAAGUAAAAAUGUUUUAUUUAGCCGAUUGGGCAUAUUUUAAAUUUACGUUAUUAAAUUUUGUAAAAUCUCAAUUCGUAUUUUUGUGGCAAAAAAAUCUUGGCUCGUAUAAUUUUGAAAACCCAACAUUGAUUGUUGAGUAACACAAAACAUACAGAACAAAAAACUUUAACUAAGCCAAAGAAACCUAAAGCAAAAUUAAAUUUGAGAAAUUAAACCAAAAUCCAAAAGUCCAGUAAAUCCAUUUAUUAACCAUAGUAAACCGUUUAAUUAGAGAAUCAAUUCGAGCUUCCGCACACUACCUGAUUCUAACUUAUCGAUUAUCUGGAACAUCAGAAAUAAAACAAAUGGAUGAGCUAUAAAGCUUAGUGCAUAACUAAAACUCAAGCCGAGAUCACACACAAUACAAUAUACCACUACACCAAAACAGGCCUUUAGCGGCGCUUUUUUAGGCCUUUAGCGACGCUAUUUAGCGUCGCAGCUACUUUUAGCGGCGCUUUGGAAAGCGCCGCAACAGAUGCCGCUAAUGAAUGCGCCGCUAACUUUAGCGGCAUUUUCAGAAAUAAACGCCGUUAAAGGUGUUGGUCUUUAGCGGCGCUUCUAGCACAAACGCCGCUGAAGAAUAAGACCUUUAGCGGCGUUUUUAGGAUAAGCGCCGCUAAAGAUCAGGGUCUUUAGCAACGUUUUUUCCUAAAACGCUGCAAAAGACCCUAAUCUUUAGCGGCGCUUUGACCAAAAACGCCAUUAAAUUUGGCAGAUUUGUAAAAUAAAAUUUUUUAUAUUUUCAGCCCUCCUGUAAAAACAAAUCAGAAGAAAUCAUAUCUAAACCAACCAAAAGCAAUAAAUCUAUAUAUUAAACAAAUAAUAUAAUAAAUAUCAAUAAAUAAAAUAAAAUUCGUAUUAUUCUUACAAAAAUGUUAAAAGUUAAAAUGAUAAUUAAAAGUCAAAAUUGAAGUAUAUUUACACGAUAAUCUAAGACGGCGGCGGUUGCGAUGCUGAAACAUCUUCAUCAUACUCUGAAGCUGCUACUGGAGUUCAUCGAACUUUUGACGCUGCUCUGCUUCCCUCGCUGCAGCCUCUACUUCCCUCGCUUUAGCCUCUGCUUCCCUCGCUGUAGCCUGUUCUUCUCUCGCUGCCGCCUCUGUUUCUCUUGCCGCCGCCUCUGCUCUAAGCUGCUACUGGAGUUCUUCAUACUUUCGUUGAACCUCAGCUUCUCUCGCUGCUGCAUCUGCUUUAAGUUGUAGCUGGAGUUCUUCAUAUCUUUUUUGAACCUCAGCUUCUCUCGAUGUUACCUCUGCUUUAAGUUGUGUAAUUUGCUCAGUUGUUGUCGCUUGCAUCUGAGCCAUCUGGUCUCUUAACCUCUGAACCUCAGCUUCAGCUCGACUCCCCGAAGGCAUAUAUUGUUACGAGCUAGAUCCAAAAUAUUGGGAUGGGUUAACAAAAGAUCCUUGAAAUCGAACCCGACCAUACCUUCAGGACCCAAAACUUCAGUGAUAAUCCGGUUAUCAAUGUCGUCAAUAUGAACAGAACUAUCACUGGAAACAAUCGCUUCGUACUCCGCCUUUUUAUCCUUUAAUUUUUCCUAAAAAAUAAAUCAAAUAGUUAGGAACGCAAUAUAUAUUAAAAAACCCAAUGCAACAUAACUUAACAAUAUUUGCAUUACAAUAAAUGAAAUAAAUCAUUAGAAAAUAAACACUAUAAAUAAUUAAAACAAGUGAAAUUGUAUUAAGCAAAGGUACCAUAAUUUCUGCAGCUUCAGGAGUCAUAGGGUUUCCAUCUUUCUUCCUAUGUGUAAUGUCAAAAAGUUGAAGGCGUCCAACUUUUGACCGGACGACAGUUCCUACAAUACAAUAGUAAAAAUAUUAAUGUAAGUAAUAAAUAUCUGCCAAUAUUAAAAAAUUGAAAAUACCUCUGCAUGAGCUACACACGUAAAACUUUUCGACCCAGCUGUGUGAGUGAAUUUUUGUUGCUGCCUACUUUUUUUUUUCAACUUCUUCACGAUCCUACAUUAUGAAAUUAUUAGUAUGUUAAUUAGGAAAUACCAUAUACCAAAAUAAUUACAAAAUUUUAUAAGCUACACAUACCUCUCCUUUCUUCGAAGUCCAAAAUCUAACGACCUCUUCCCACUGGUACCUCAGCAUUCCCGGCGGGACAUUUUGUAAUCUCUCGUCGAGUUUUGUUUUUAUCUUAAAAUAGUCUUUCUUUAAAGUGCUCUUAUGGUCUCUCCAUCUUUUUCCCAAUGCCUUCUUUACAUAAGCAUCGAAGACCUCUAGAGCAAAUCUCGCCUACAAAAAACACAACUUAAGAAAGUAAAUGUAAACGAAACUUAAACCCAAGUAUUAUAAAUGACAUACACAUUUUGUUACCUUAAUGUUAUCGAGAGCUUGGUUCUUGUUACUCUCGGGCACUUUAUGCCAUGACUCGAAGUUAAUUGUCAACAUAUUUGCAUUCCAUGCUAGAAUGCCCAUGUAUCCUGCUAAAAGGCGAGCUUCUGAUUCAACAGGCUGACCAAAGCUAUUACUGGAUACUUGGACACGCUCGGCUGGAUCUAGGUCGUAUAAAUCGCUCAGUACCGUACAUCCGCGACCUCUCCGCGUCCCACCAGUUUCAUCUGAAAAAUAAAAGUAUUGUAAUAUACGAAAUUUAAAAAAACACAAAAAAGAAGUCAACACACAUGUAAAUUAAAUGUUAAAUUACUUUGAACUUCUAUAGGUUCCUCAGGUGUAACCGGAACAUUCGAAGAUCCAACAGCAGUCUGUUGUUCAGUGCUGUUUGUUUCCGCCGAGUUUGGAGUACCUUGAACAAUGCAGUGCGAUCGUACUUUUCUUCUAGGCAUUUUAUCUGCAAUACAAAUAAAUUAGUUAAAAACUUAGUAUACAAUUAGAACAAUAAUAUCACAUAUAAAAUAGUUGAAAUAUCAUCAUUCGUAAAUGUAAUUAGAUAAUCGUAAAAGCUUACUACAUUAUAAUUCGUAAAUCUCUUCAUUCGUAUCCUGGCGGACCCAUUGAAAUUGUGUACUAGUACUAGGGAUGUUUUCGUUUAAGUUCUGUUCUGGAAAUGGCAAAGUUUGUGUUCUGUCGUCAAUGUCAUCUCUACUUCCACUGCCCAUGUCAAACAAGUCUCUAGGGAUGUUACGGAGUACAACGUACCAACCCUCAUCAGUUGGGUCUUUUGAGUAAAAAACUUGUUUGACUUGAGAAGAAAAUACAUACGGCUCAUCAAUCAAUUGUUGUCCUGUGUGAAUCAAUUGAGCGAAGUUUACCAUUGUGAAACCAAAUUGAUCUUGCUUGAUUCCACGUGCAGUAUUAACAUCGGCCCAAUCACCUCGAAAUAAGACAACUUUCCAUUUGCCGUAGUAAUCCAACUCAAUUAUGUCAGUAAGAAGUCCAAAAUAUUCCACAUUUCCCUCCAUAGGAUUAUUGUCCCUAGCACUAGCAUAACUUGUAAUUGAGGAAUUAACCACUAUUCCACAAUUUUGCGUUCUCCUCAAUCUCUCGCGGUAUUUUGUAUAAAAUCUGAAUCCAUUUAUGAGGAACGCACUAUAUCUUUUAACCACCCGAUUUGGACCUUGGGAAAGCCAUUUAACAUCGUCCUUGACAUUCUUCCCACUCCAAACCUAUUGAAUGGAAAGUAAACUAACUGAGUAAUUAAAAAGUUUCUGUAAACAACUUAUUGAUAUCUCGAUGUUGUGUUCUUCGGGAGCGCGAACGAGAUCUAAAUAUUUGUUUGUACUCACUAUGUUAAAAAUAUGUUCAGUUUGUUAGACUAUAAACAAUUUUAAAAUCUUGAAUAUUUAUCAAAUUUCUAGAACUUACUUGCGUAAAGGUUUCAUUGCUUCGUGGUGAAACAGAACAUAUCGAUGUGCUUGAACCCACGAUAAAUCAUCUAAUUUUGCAAUUUCAACUUUACCAAUUGGUUCUCCAAAACUUUGGAACAAAUAAUUAUCGGCAAAGUUAUGAUCCGUGAGUCCAGCAUUUCUAUUUGGUCUGUUGAACCUCGUUUCAACAUCUUUAAAAUAUCUUGAACAGAAGGUCAUACAUUCCUCUGCCAAGUAGCCUUCAGCAAUCGAUCCUUCUGGAUAACGCUUAUUGCGGCAAUAAGACUUUAAUUUGGAUAGGAACCUAAACACGGUAUACAACAUUAUCAAAAGUUGUAACUAAAGGCAUAUAGGUGAAUGAAGGAAAAUUUUAAAAAUACUUCUUUAACACCUUUCUAUGGGAUACAUCCAUCGAUAGAAAACGGGUCCGCCAAGAAUUGCUUCGUGCGGGAGAUGAAUUAUCAAGUGAACCAUAAUGGUGAAGAAGGAAGGUGGGAAGAUUUUCUCCAUGUUGCAUAAGGUCAAAGCGGCUCGAUCCUGUACCUUCUGAAGUUCUUGAACAUCCAAAACUUUGCCACAAAUGACUUUCAUUAUGUUGGAUAGUUCAAUGAUACAAGACGUCACCUUCUUGGACAUACAACAUCGUAGAGCAACUGGCAUUAAAUCUUGCAUCAAGAUGUGAUAGUCAUGUGAUUUCAGCGAAUAUAAUCUUCGAUCUUUAACACUAACACAUCGAGAUAUAUUUGAUGCAUACGCAUCUGGAACCUUUAUAUCCUUCAACACCAUGCAAAACAGUUCUUUCUCCAUCUUGGACAUUGAGAAAAUAGAAGGCGGCAACCGAUAUUUCCCAUUCGGAAGUGGAUUGGGAUGAAGUUCAGGCUGAAUUCCCAUUUGGACUAAAUCAAGUCGACUCUGAAGAUUGUCUUUUGAUUUUCCAUCGACGUUCAAAAUUGUACCCACAAUGUUCUCGCAGACAUUUUUCUCAAUGUGCAUAACAUCAAGAUUGUGUCGUAAAAUGUGGUGCUCCCAAUAAGGCAACUCAAAAAAAUACUUCUUUUUUUCCACAAGUCUGCCUCAUUAGGAUCAUCCUCUUCAUCGGAGUUGUCAUCAGCUUCAUCAUUUGAUAUUCUAUUUCUUUGCGUGUUUGCCGGUUGAUUCAUCUUUCCAUAAAUGAAAUUCAUAUCUUCCAACAUUAACAAGAUUUCAGAUCCACUUGUCUGCGAAGGAGCUUCUCUGAACUCUUCAGUACCGUCAAAUGCUGAACUAUGAGAUCUAAAUCUAUGAUUUUUCGGUAACCACCGACGAUGCCCCAUGUAAGAGAACUUCUUCCCAUUGUAUAACCAUUGCGAACAUGUUUGUGCAGCACAACAAGGGCACGCAUAACGACCCUUGGUACUCCAACCAGAUAAAUUGGCAUAAGCGGGGAAGUCAUUAAUGGUCCACAUCAAAGCUGCACGUAAAUUAAAGUUCUCAUUUCUCAGCACAUCGUAUGUCUCGACACCAGCCCAUAAUUGUUUUAACUCUUCAAUAAGUGGCUGUAAAUAAAUGUCGAUAUCAUUCCCGGGCCCUUUCUCUCCAGGGAUAAUCAUAGAUAAGAUAAGGGAAUAUUGCUUCAUGCAAAUCCACGGAGGCAGAUUGUAAGGAACAAGCACUACUGGCCAAGUACUGUAUGCAGUACUCAUAAUCUUGUAAGGAUUAAAUCCAUCAGAUGCUAGGCCAAGCCUCACACUCUUGGGAUAGCUUGCAAAGCUUGGAAAUUUAUUGUCAAACGAUUUCCAAGCUAAAGAAUCUGCCGGAUGCCUUAAUAGUCCAUCAUCGGUUCGUCCUUCAUGGUUCCACGUCAUUGACUCCGUUGUCUUCAACGACAUGAAAAGCCUUUGAAGCCUUGGUAUCAGUGGAAAAUACCGCAAAAUAUUUACCGGCUUCUUUCUUGGCUGUGCAUAAUUUUCAUCGUUGUUCCCAUCUUCUAUGUUUCUAUUCAUCCAACGGGAUUCGCCGCAUACAUGACAGCACUGUUGGUUUCUCCGAUCGCCCCAGUACAACAUGCAAUCAUUUGGGCAACUAUGGAUUUUGUUGUACCCAAUACCUAAGUCUUUUAUCAUUUUCUUCAUAUCUUUGCAUGACUGAGAGAUUUUUGCAAACGGAAACAUUUCUCUCAAAAACUCUAACAGCAUUGUCAAUGAGUUCCCGGUCCACCCUCCCAAACAUUUUAACUGGAAAAGAUGAAUGCAGAAAGACAUUUUAAAAAAUUUCGAUCCCUCAUAUAGUUCUUUGUUCAUCUCAUUAAGUAGCGCGUAGAACUUUGCCGCUUCUUCAUUCGGCUCUUCAUGAUGUUGGUUUCUUCUGGGUUCGGUAAAAGCAUUUCCACCGAGAUUACAAUCAUCAAAUGGCACAAAGUCGGGUGGGAACGACUGUAAACCAUGACUGUAAAUAUUAAAUGCUUCCCGCAACAUCCCUUCCAUGUCAUCCCCUCUAACAGACUGAUGGUAAGCAGUAGUAUCAUAAGAUACAUCCUUCCUUGAAGAGGAAGUACUAGGUGGGCAUUCUCCAUGAAAAAACCAUUGUUUAUAACCACGAACAAACCCAUCAACAAUUAGAUGCUCGUAUACAACUUCACGAUAAUGCCAGUUUAUGUUGACACACUUCUUACACGGGCAAAGAAUCAUGUUCUCUUGGCUUGCAUAUUGAAAUGCAAAAUUUAGAAAAGUUUGUACUCCAUUUCGAUAACCGAUGCUUACCCUUGACAAUUUCAUCCAAGACCGGUCCAUUUCUUAUUUCUUGAAGCCUAAUCUCCUGUAUAAAUUGCACGGGUUUAGGAUUUAGGAAUAAGUAUAGUUAAGCUAUGUAAGUAUUUCCUAAUUAUGUAAGUUAUUUAUUACCCAAACUAUGUAAGUUGUGUAUUAUGAAAAUUAUGCUAGGUAAGUUAUGUAAGUCACAUAAGUUAUGUAAGAAGUUAUUUAUGUAAGUUAUUUAUUAUGAAAAUUAAGUAAGUUAUGUAAUUUACGAAUAAUUAAAAAAAUGUAAGUUAUGUAAGUUGUAAGUUAUGUAUAAUAUUAAUUAACUAACUUAUGUAAUUUAAGUAUAAUAUUAAUGUAAGUUAUGUAAGUUGUAAGUUAUGUAAGUUAUGUAUCGAAGUUAACUAACUAACUUAUGUAAUUUAAGUAUAAUAUUAAUGUAAGUUAUGUAUAAUAUUAAUGUAAUUAGUUAUGUAAUUUAUGUAUUUUAAUUAACUAACUUAUGUAAUUUAAGUAUUAUUUUAAGCAAUUUAAUAAUUAAUAGCAUGUGUAAGCUUACACAUUCUGUCAAUGAUCUAAUGUAAAGUCUAAUACAAAAAAUUGCUUGCCAAGGCUUACUGAUUUGAAACUGUUCAUCAUUGCGGAAUUUGGUACUUCGGAUUAGAGUCAAAUUUAUACUUUCACUAUAUUUAAAUAUGGAAUUUUGCUACUGCACAUUCCAUUUCAUUGAUUUAUAAAUAAAAGAAUUAAGAGGAUUAGAAUAUUUCAUGGAACAAUUUGUUAAUGUUCAAUAAUGAUUUAUGUUCACUAACACAAACUUAAUGAAAUAUUCAGAUUAUUAGUUUGAAUUGAUUGAUUUAAUUAGUGAAAUAAGGUGAUUCUAGAAUUAAUAAUAUCAUUUUCAUUAUUAUGAUUGGUGGUCUGCAAAUUAUUCACUCUGACAAUUAAAUUAUUUUGACAAAACUUACUAUUUCCCUCUAAAUCAUGUAUAUUCAUGAAUCUUGAAUUUGAUCCCAGUGGAGGAAAAUUUUCAUUUUAUGGCUAUGAAUUUGGAAGAGUUGAAGUUCAUCUUCAUCAAAGAGAUGACAAAGCUAUUACCUUGUCACAGAGGAAGGUAGAUCAAUUUGCCGUGAAGAAAUUUGUCAAAAUUUAAAUCAAGUUAAUGGCUUAACAAUUGAAGUAACGAAUGAUACAGAAGCAGAGACAAAUGAUGUAGAGGCAGAGACAAAUUUCAUGAUUGAAGUAGAAUGCUCAAGUUAGGUUUACGGGUUCAAAAAUUACACUCUAUCACAUUCAACUAUAGAACCAAAAGGGGGAAAGGGAAGAAAAACAAUAAGGCAGAAAAUAAGGAAUGAGAAAUUGAACCAAAAGGCAUAAAAUAUAGAAAUAGAAGGAAUGCAAUAAGAGAUUCCAGAAAAAGAGAAAAACAGAUUUGCAAAGAACUAUUUGAAAAUGAAAGUAUAACCGCAAAACUGAAAUGAUUUGAAAUCCAACCACAAACUUCAGACAAUUUCACAUGAACUGAAUCAAAAGGAAGUUGCAAACGUAAAAUCAAAUUACAAAAAGUAAAAGAAGUUUCUAAUUAAAUGAUAAAAUCAAAUCACAACAACAGAAAAGGUUGGCUCAGUUCGAUGUCAGAGAAGAAACGGAAAGCUUACCGUAGUUUCUGUUCGCCGGCUUCUAACGAUUGGGCUUUCUCAGUUAGAAGAAAAGGGGAAGUUCUGAAAAGUGAAAUCUCGUAAAAAUCAGAAAUAAUUAGAAUGAAAAAAAACGUGGCUAAUUUUUAUGACAGAAAUAAUCAGAAAUCUCGCAAAUUGCCCAUUCCCAAUCGAUUCAUCGAAUAAACAAUUUUUUAUGACAGAAUCAGUUUAUUCGAAACCCUGGAUCCCAAAAAAACAAAACUCUAAAAUUUUAAUCUUAAUCGGCCAUCGACAGAAACGACUUACCUGGGAUACAAAUCUCGCAGCUUUGCCCAACAAUGGAGUAAAGAUUGAUUCCAAACGAAGUUGAUUCCUGAGAUGUCGGCUCCUACAACUUAGUUGCUAAUUUUUUUUCUUUCCUCUCGAAUCGCUGCUGUUACUCUACAAAAAUUUAGAAAAUUUUGGUAAAGGAGACGGAGGGGAGGGAUGAAGUAAAAAUGUCCUCUUAGGAAACGGCACCGUUUAAGGUAAUUUUAAGUCUCAUUUGCAGCGUUUUUAAAACAAACGCCUCUAUUGUAUUCACAUUUGCGGCGUUUUAGACAGAAACGCCACUAAUAUUUUAAAGCAUGUAAAGAAACGGCGUCGUUUUAAUAAAUUAUAGUGCCUGUUGUGGCAUUUUCUGAAAAAACGCCACAAAAAUUAAUUACCUGAAUUGAACCGGCGCCGUUUUUACAAACACUUAUAUAUCCUUGCGGCAUUUUCAAUAAAACGCCAGUAAUAGAUUCUAUACUUCAACUGAAACGGUGCCGUUUUCCUAAAUUUUAAAAUUUAUCCAUAAACUGAAACGACGUCGUAUCAAAACAGCUUGGAAUUUUUUUGUGGCGUUUUUUUAUAAAAACGCCGGUAAUGUCUACCUUUAGCGGCGUUUUUGGCAAAACCGCCACCAAGGAAUUUAAAUUCUUUUACCAAAUCGGUGCCGUUUUGGAAAAUUUGUAUAUAUAUUAGCGGCGUUUUUUCUAAAAAUGCCACUAAAUUUCACAUUAUUUAUUUAUUUAUUGUAUUUUCAUUAAAAUUUUUGGUAAAUAAUUAUUAAGUUUAAAGUAAUCUUUAAAAGUUUUUGAUAAAAUUAACAUUAUUAGUUUUUUUAUUUCCUUUUUAUAUUUUUUUAUUUUUUCUUAUAUUUUGGUUCAAAUUAAAUAAUUAAUUACAUAUAUAUAUUCAUAUAAAAAUAUCAAAUUGUUAAGGCUAAAUAUUUUUCAGACAUUUUAGUAUUAAUUAAUUGUCUCAUUUAACAAGUCUCAAAUAUAAUUGUAUCAAUUAGUAUGGUAGUGACGAAAAAUUGGGGAAACAAAACCGCGCGGCCGGGCGGUCAAUAUAUAAAUUAAUAUAUUUUAGAAAUAUAUACUCAUAAUUUAAAUAUAUUUAUUUUAUUAUUAAGAACAUAUUUAAUAUAUAAAUUAAUAAAACUAAUUAAUCUGAGCUUAAACCUUAAUAUGAUCUAAACCUUAAAUCACUAACUGUUAACCCUAAACCCCAAACCCCCCCAAACCCCAAACCAUAAACCCCUAAACCCUAAACAUUAUUUAAUAUAUAAGUUAUAAAACAUUAAUCAAUCUAAAUCCUAAACCCUAACUCGACCUCGAAUCACUAACCCCAAACCCCUAAACAUUAUUUAUUAAUAUAUAAAUUAAAAAAACACUAAUUAAUCUAAAUCCUAAACCCUAACUCGACCCCGAAUCACUAACCCCUAACCCCUAAAAAUUAUUUAAUAUAUCAAUUAAAAAACACUAAUUAAUCUAAAUCCUAAACCCUAACCCUAAAUCCCUAACCCCUAAACAUUAUUUAAUAUUAUAUAAUUUAAAAUAUAUAUUACUUAGUCUAAACCCUAAACUCUAACCUAACACCGAAUCCAUAAACCCUAAACUUCUAACCUUUAAAGGUUAAAUUUAGCCUCUAACCCCUAACCCCUAACCAAUAAACCCUAAUUCCAUAUUCUAUAAACCUUAAAAUUGUAACUCUUAAACCGGCCCUAAAUCCUAAAUUAACCAUAUAUAUACCCUAAACUAUAAUGAUAAUUAAAUUAAAUAUUUUAAAAUUAAUACUAUCGUAUCUUUUACAAUUAUAUUUGAAAUUAUUUAAUAUAUAAUUUAAAAAUCAAUCAAUUAUGUACCCAAAAAAUUUUAAAAUUAUUUUAAAUAAUAGUAUUGUAAUUUCUCCAUUUGUAACAAAUAUUUUUAUAUGUUUUUUUUAUUUCAAAUUAUUUCUACGUGUCAUUAUUUCAAAUUUAUUCAUUUUUAACAAAUAUUCAAUUAAAAAUAAAUUGGAUUUUAAUUAAUAUAAAUAAACAAAUUACAUAGCAAAUAGAUAGAUAAAAUGUUUUUGCGGCGCUUUUUAAAAAACGCCGCUAAAGACCUGAGCAUUAGCGGCGCUUAUUCAGAAACGCCGCUGAAGACCCCAAAAACUCAGAAAACGGUGCCGUUGGGCUUAGGCUUUUUGCGGCGCUCUUAGAAAAACGCCGCUAAAGACCUGACCAUUAACGGCGCUUUACAGAAACGCCGCUAAAAGACCUGAGAAUUAGCGGCGCAUUACAGAAACGCCGUGAAAGACCCCAAAAACUCAGAAAACAGUGCCGUUGGGUUUAGGCUAUUUGCGGCGCUUUGAAAAAAACGCCGCUAAAGACCUGAGCAUUAGCGACGCAUUACAGAAAUGCCGCUAAAGACCCCAAAAACUCAGAAAACGGUGCCGUUGGGUUUAGGCUUUUUGCGGCGCUUUUAAAAAAACGCCGCUAAAGACCCCCAAAAACUCAGAAAACGGUACCGUUUAGCUUAGGUUUUUUGCGGCGCUUUCAAAUAAAUGCCGCUAAUGCUUAUUUUUAGCAGCGAUUUUUAAAAAAAUGCCGCUAAUAAUCGACCUGUAGCGGCGUUUUCCUAGAAGCGCCGCUAAUGCUUGAUUUUUAGUGGCGUUUUUUGUCUAAUCGCCGCUAAAAGCGCCGCUAAAAGCCUUUUUUGGUGUAGUGUACAAAUCAUAAAAUCAUAGGAAAUUUCAUAACAAUCAGUCAAACAGAAUUGAGCAUACAUGAUUAUGCCAAUGCGGUGGUUUUCAGAAAAUCAUAAUGCAAUUUUUUUCAGAAAACAUCCUACCCAACACCACUACACACCCGAAUAUAGUUCCCCAAAACUCAUCCAUCUAAAAACACACCAAUUAAGUCAUCUCAGGUUGCCCGAAAACGAUGACCUACCACCUCGAGUUAGUCGGCAAUGAUGACUUAUCAAUUUGCAGUUAAACUACCAGAUUAGAUAUUUGUGAUCAAGCAAUUGUAUUGCAGCUCAGCUACCAGAUCAAAUGUUCCUAGUGUAGUCCCUAACAUUAUUAGGUGUUCUCGGCUCAGUCCUUUGGACUUUAAAAAAAUAGAUUUGGAUAUCCAAUUAAUCAUAAAUUGCCAGGUGGUAUAUGCUGAAGUCACGAUAACAUCAUCAUCAAGAAAAAACCAAAAAAAUCUUUAAAAAAUAUCAUAAAAUUCAAAUAAACUUAUAUAAAAUUAACUACAUUAUAAAUAUAUAAUUUUUCAAAAAAAUAAAAAUUCUUAAUUUUUUUAAAAUUUGUAAAAAAUAAUAAAAUUAUUAGAAAUUGUUAAAUAUUGUAAAAACAUUAUAAAAAUUAUUAGAAUCAUAAAAGACGGUAAAAAAUAAAAAGUUAAAAUACUAGUAAAAAUUGUCUAACUUGAAAUAAAGUAUACAUUUGGUAAUCAAAUUUAAAAUAUUGAAAAUUUGUAAUACAAUCAAUUUUUAUAAAAAAAUAUUUUAAAAUAUUUUAAUAAAAAUCAAAUAAAUUUUAUAUCAGUUUUUUAAUAUUUUAAAAUACAUCAAUUUUUAGUACUUUACCAACGUUACUGGCAGCAAGUUUUUUCUACUCGACUCCCUAUUUAUUGUCUUAAAUAGCUUCCUGCAUCCACCAUUUUGCACAUGGUUUUUCUAUUUUAUACCAAAGCUCUUUAGAAUAGUUAAACAUUCAACAAUAGUUCUUAAGAUAUAAGUUUAGAGACAAAUAAUUAUCUUGAGAUAGUAAAACAAAAUUGAAAUAAUUAAAUAUAUUAUUUACUUGAAAUAAUAUUAUUUUUCAUUAUUUAAAUUAUUUGAGAAAAAAACUUAUUCAAGUUUAUCACGUAAAAAGAUCUACCAAUUAUAAAUUCUGAUUAGUUGAACCAUAAGACAAUUGUUAUAGGUAAUAUCCUUCCAAGAGACAAUUAUCACAUGUUCAAACUCUAGUCAAUGUGAUUUAUAAAAUUUUAAAAAUAUUAAAAUAUCUAAUAUAUAUUUGAAAAUUAUGUAAAUUUUUAUAUUUUACAUAGUUUUUUUUGUAUUUUUCUGAUUUUAGAUUUUUUCUAUUUUUAAAUAAUUUUGAUAAUUUUGUAAUUUUUCGUUUAUAAUUUUUGUCAUUUUUGAAGAUUUUUUAAGGGUUUUUGUUGAUGAUGUCAUUAUGAUAGCAUCAUAUGACAUGUGGUAGUAUAUGAUUUGUUGAAUAUCCCAACGAAUUUUUUAUUGUCCAAUGAACUAAACUGAAAAUUUUUAAUAUGAUUAGGGACUGAAGUGGAUAAAAAUAUUUUAAAAACUAAAGUAUAAAUUUUUAAAAACAAUAUUUUAUAUUGUGAAUUUGGUGUGCAAUGAAUAUGUAUACUAAAAGAUGCUAUUUUACAGGUAAUUUACCACCCAUCACCAGUGCUCCAAAGCUUGAGAUUCUUUUAUUGUGGGGAAAUAAACUUUUCGUGUUUCAGAGUAAUCAAAAUCGCGUCACACAAAGAAGGAAACAAAUUAACCCCAAAUCAUGAAACUUAACAAAGUACGAAUCUUUUCACAUAUUUCUUCCCACCAACCGUCAAGAUUGCUCAAAAACCACUAAUGACAUCGACCUUCGCAAGGUUAAAUUGAAACCAAAAGGCAACUAAAGAUGGAACAAAGGUUGUUAUAAAAAAAUAUUAACAAAGACUUAUUGGAGGAAAAAUGGCGAAAAAUCAAGAAUAGGGAGAUUGGAAAAAAAAAAACAAUGAAACGACAAAGAGAAGGAGUGGGAAAGUGACGGCAGUUUGUGGAGAGAUUUUGGGUAAAUAAAAAGUAACUCACCACUCAACCCAUUAAAUCUGAUUACCCUCUAAACAUAUACCCUUAGAGUUUAAAUUCAACCCAAAUACCGAAACCUUAGGGUAAUUUGAAGCCUUACCACUAAAUUAGUAGGCUCAUCCUUGAAAUUAAUUGAAUGAAAAUAUUAUUUAUGUCAGAUGAUCAGGGAUAGAGGUUAAGACCAAAGAUGACAAAAAUUCAAAGGAAAGAUUUAAACCUAGAACCUCACACACACAAGCAUAACACCUAUCCACUGAACUAGAUUUACUCCAUUGACAUAAUUUUCACAAUAUUAACUAAAAAUUCAGAAUACGGCCACUCUUGGUUUCACUUACCCAAUUUCUUCUAACCUGAUUUUUGUGAUGUGACAACUCUCUCCUCCUUAAAAGAAUUUCAUCCUCGAAAUUCCCGUUAUGGCACCAUACACUUAACCACAAAAUUUAAAAUUCCCUAGUCCAAACCAACCACCAGGCUAUCAUUGUACAACUCUAAUCUCCAUUCAAGUCCAAUCCAGACAAUAUUUCAGAGGAAUUUCCUAUUCACUACCUCGAAUUACCUCAAUAAGCUUUCCACAGAAACAUCACUAAUGAUCCUUUACCCCAGACUUUAAAAAACAUCACUUUCCACAAAAUACAAGUACAAACAAUUCUUAUCAAUGCAUAGUACAUUUGGAACAUUUCAUAAAAGUGCCUGUAUCAUUGUCAAAUGCAUCACGGCUCACUUGAUACCUAGUUGCAUAUCCCCAUCUCGAAUUUUGUUUUUAUGCCGAAGCUUGUACCCAACUAAAACAGUGUCGUGAGCAAUCCCAAACUUGAUGCUCAACGAACCCACAUCUGAAACACGCUCCCAUUUUCCUCCAACAAUCGUCUGAAUGGUGCCUAUCACAGUAAGUAUAAAUCAGAACCUCAACCGCAUUCACAAUUGCGUCACCCGGCUGAAGCCUGUCUAUUUUAGCCCGUUUCCUUGGUCAUGGAUUCAAGUCAAUAGAACCAUCACUCAUCUUAUUUUGCACUUUAUUCAUUACUUAUUCUCUCCCUCCGAGCAAUUACUCUCUACCGCUAACUUGACUUAAUACGCUUGAGGUCACUCAAUCACAGACUCUUGUCCCAUAUAUCCAAAUUGGGUUCCAUCGACCCUUUGCAAAUCUCUAAACACCUCUUGGAACACUGAAACAUCCCUACUUCUAAACUGCCCUCAGAUUUGGGUGUCAUAGCAAACUUAUUUAUUUUCAAAUUGGGCUUACUGCCCUGAGAAGAGAACUCGGCUCAAGUCACCCGACUAUGUCCACCACGCCCUCGCACAUCAUGACCUCGAGUAUUCAUUAUACUAAUCUGCAGUUUGAGAAAUUUUAUGAAUUAUCUUAGGUUUAUUAAAAAUCAUAAGUCUAGAGUUUUAUCAAAGUUUCUUACAUAAUUACCAUAGUCUUUAGCUAGAGUAGAGUAAUCCUAGCACUUAAGUUUUGCUAGUUUGUCUAGUAUAGGUAAAGUAAAGAUACUUACAGGAUCGACGAUGUAGUUUUGGAUUCUCUUUUUAUAGAAUCAAAUAUAAAAAUAAUCAAAAUCUAAAUACCCAUUUUAGAAACCCAAAGUAUCAAAAUUAAUUAGAAAUUCAAUUUAUUUAAAGCAUAUUUAAUGGAGAUUUUCAAACCUAGAAAUCACAGCCCGAGUUUUGUUACCUUGCUCUGAUACCACUAAAUGUAACACUCCAAACUUGGCUUAGACGUUAUGGCCAAAUCUGGAAGGUUACAUCAGUACGAAAAAAAAUUAUUUUUCUAAAGUGUGGUUUGUUACGAAAUUGAAAACCAAAUUUUAUGUAAGUUCGUCAUGAUUCCCUAAUAGGAAAAUUUGUAAAUUAUCAAAAUGUAAAUGUGAACAUAUUAAUUAUUAACUUAAAAAAAACAAAACCUAGCCUUAUACAAUCAAAAUGCUAAAAUCAUUUGCUUUAUAAAACUUGUAAUUUUGACUAAAAUUUUUGCAACGAAAAUUCCAAACUAAUAUUCGUAAAUUGUAAUUUUGUCAAGUAAAAACGUUUUAUUUAGCCGAUUGGGCAUAUUUUAAAUUUACGUUAUUAAAUUUUGUAAAAUCUCAAUUCGUAUUUUUGUGGCAAAAAAAUCUUGGCUCGUAUAAUUUUGAAAACCCAACAUUGAUUGUUGAGUAACACAAAACAUACAGAACAAAAGACUUUAACUAAGCCAAAGAAACCCAAAGCAAAAUUAAAUUUGAGAAAUUAAACCAAAAUCCAAAAGUCCAAUAAAUCCAUUUAUUAACCAGAGUAAACCAUUUAAUUAGAGAAUCAAUUCAAGCUUCCGCACACUGUCCGAUUCUAACUUAUCGAUUAUUUGAAACAUCAGAAAUAAAACAAAUGGGUAAGCUAUAGAGCUUAGUGCAUAACUAAAACUCAAGCCGAGAUCACACACAAUACAAUAUACAAAUCAUAAAAUCAUAGGAAAUUUCAUAACAAUCAGUCAAACAAAAUUGAGCAUACAUGAUUAUGCCAAUGCGGUAGUUUUCAGAAAAUCAUAAUGCAAAUUUUUUCAGAAAACAUCCUACCCAACACCACUACACACCCGAAUAUAGUUCCCCAAAACUCGUCCAUCUAAAAACACACCAAUUAAGUCAUCUCAGGUUGCCCGAAAACGAUAACCUAUGACCUCGAGUUAGUCGGCAAUGAUGACUUAUCAAUUUACAGUUAAACUACCAGAUCAGAUAUUUGUGGUCAAGCGAUUGUAUUGCAGCUCAGCUGCCAGAUCAAAUGUUCCUAGUGUAGUCCCUAACAUUAUCAUCAAUUAAUCAUAAAUUGCCAGGUGGUAUAUGCUGAAGUCACGAUAACAUCAUCAUCAAGAAAAAAACCAAAAAAAUCUUUAAAAAAUAUCAUAAAAUUCAAAUAAACUUAUACAAAAUUAACUACAUUAUAAAUAUAUAAUUGUUCAAAAAAUAAAAAUUCUUAAAUUUUUUAAAAUUUGUAAAAAAAUAAUAAAAUUAUUAGAAAUUGUUAAAUAUUGUAAAAACAUUAUAAAAAUUGUUAGAAUCAUAAAAGACGGUAAAAAAUAAAAAGUUAAAAUACUAGUAAAAAUUGUCUAACUUGAAAUAAAGUAUACAUUUGGUAAUCAAAUUUAAAAUAUUGAAAAUUUGAUAUUAAAGUUGUAUAUAGUAAGACAAUCAAUUUUUAUAAUUUUUUUUUAAAAAUUUUAAAAUAUUUUAAUAAAAAUUGAAUAAAUUUUAUAUCAAUUUUUUAAUAUUUUAAAAUACAUCAAUUUUCAGUACUUUACCAAUGUUACUGGCAAUGAGUUUUUUCGACUUGACUCCCUAUUUAUUGUCUUAAGUAGCUUCCUGCAUCCACCAUUUUGCACAUGGUUUUUCUAUUUUAUACCAAAGCUCUUUAAAAUAGUUAAACAUUCGACAAUAGUUCUUAAGAUAUUAGUUUAGAGACAAAUAAUUAUCUUGAGAUAGUAAAAAAAAAUGAAAUAAUUAAAUAUAUUAUUUACUUGAAAUAAUAUUAUUUUUCAUUAUUUAAAUUAUUUGAGAAAAAAACUUAUUCAAGUUUAUCACGUAAAAAGAUCUACCAAUUAUAAAUUUUGAUUAGUUGAAGCAUAAGACAAUUGUUAUAGGUAGUAUCCUUCCAAUAGACAAUUAUCACAUGUUCAAACUCUAGUCAAUGUGAUUUAUAAAAUUUUAAAAAUAUUAAAAUAUCUAAUAUAUAUUUGAAAAUUAUGUAAAUUUUUAUAUUUUACAUAGUUUUUUUUGUAUUUUCUGAUUUUAGAUUUUUUCUAUUUAUAAAUAAUUUUGAUAUUUUUGUAAUUUUUCUUUUAUAAUUUUUGUCAUUUUUGAAGAUUUUUUUAAGGUUUUUGUUGAUGAUGUCAUUAUGAUAUCAUCAUACGACAUGUGGUAGUAUAUAAUUUGUUGAAUAUCCCAAUGAAUUUUUUAUUGUCCAAUGAACUAAACUGAAAAUUUUUAAUAUCAUUAGGGACUGAAGUGAAUAAAAAUAUUUUAAAAACUAGUGUUAAAAAAGUGAUAUACUUCAGGGACACAGCAUUAACAUUUUCUAAAAGAUGGAAGUGUUUUUGUUUUUUAAGGGAAUAGAAUUUUUUUGAGUGAAUAUGGUUUUGUGAGGGAGUAGUAAUAUUAUUAUUAGAGACAAGGCAUUUGAUUUUUAUAUAACUUUUUAAUUAAGUCAAUAUCACUCAUUGAGUAAAACCCAACAUAUUAAGCACAUUAUUAUACUAAUUUAGAUUAAUAGGAAUGAUCAAAUUUACAAUUAAGGAUUAUAAAUUUAUUUAAUUCCAAUCUUCUACCUUUUUUUAAGUUAUAAGAAUGGUUUUGCCUUAUAUUUUCUCCAAAUUGAGAUUUAAUUUAUAAUUUUAAUUUUGAUAUAAUUUAGUUUCUCAAUUUUUAUAAUGCAAUUAAUUAGUUUAAAUACUUUAUUUUAAUCAAAAUGAUUAUAUUAAUUUUAAAGCAUUGUUAUCACUAUUAAAAUUCUUUACUAACAAUUAUUUAAAAUUAAGGUCUAUUGCUUUUGUUUUAGCUUACAUAUAGAUGUUUACAAUAUAAAUUUCUUUGUAAUUUUCAAUACAUAUUACUUAAAUAAAUAGAAAAUAGAGUUUUAAUAAUGCACAACCAAAUAAAUUUUAUUGAUGUUCUAUUAUUUUGAUUUCUUAGACUUGUAUAUAGGGAAAAUAAAGGACUAUUGCCAUUUAAUCGCUUUAAAACAAUUUUAAUGAGCUCUAGUCAUGCAAGAUUACCAUUAAAUAGAAUACUCAUAUAGAAGGAUUUACUAUUUUUGUUUCUCAAAUCACAACUAAUAAUUGUUCAUAAUUUCUUAUUUAGUGUCAUUUUUAAGAUUUAUUAGAUGACAAUUUUUCAUGCCAAUGUUUUAUUUUUAUUUCAUUUAAAGUUUCACAAUAUUUAAAAAUUAUAUAUUUUGUAAAUUUGAUAUUCAAUCAAUUUUAGAUCUAAAAAGUAAUAAUGAUUUCAACCCCAGGCCUGAUCUAAGAAUAGUUUUAGUUUGGAGUACAAUAUAUAUAUACUAAAAGAUGGAAUUUUUACAAAUAACUUACAAAUCUAUCAUUAAAUCUAAUAUGAUUUCCUCAUUUUUUUAGAGUCACAAAGAAGCCGUUCAAUUCAGAUAUCGUACUUUCCUUUACUACGACCAGCUUACUACCAUAUACGCAAGAGAUCGAGCAACUGGGAAAGAUGCUCAAACAGCUGCUGAUGUUCUUGAAGAAAUAAAUGCUGAGGAUGUACGUACUACAGGUAUGGAUGAAGAAAGGAGCUCAUUCUAUGACUGCGAAGCUGACAUCUCUUUGGAUGACAUGGAUGUUUCUGCUGCGGAGCCACAAGAGAUAGAGACCAAGGGGGUUCCUCAUCUUCAAACAAGAGAAAGAAGAAAUCUGAUGCUCGUGAUAUGUCUUCUUCAUUUGAUGAGGCUGCCACUUUAUUGGCCGAAAACAUCAAGGUCGUUGGCGAUCAAAUCAGUAGGAGUAUUGCCUCCGAGGUGGUAAUUCAGCAGAAGUCAGAAGAAUAUCAAAAGAUGGAAGAGAAAGCUUCAAAUUUAUAUUCAGCCUUAUGGUCAAUUGAAGGUUUAACCGACUAUCAGCGGUAUGAAGCUUUGAGUAAAAUUCCAGAUCAUCCAACUCAAAUGAUCGUUUUCUUUAGUUUACCUUCUGUUGCCCGAUUGGAAUGGGUCAGAAGAUUUCUUUCUUACCAUUAAAUAUCAAUGUUCAAACUUUUUGAUGUUGUAAAACUAUAUAACAUAUGGAUUAUGAUGUAGAAUUUCAUUUUCAUCUAACCUUUUCUUAAUAUAAGUUAAUUAUGUUUAUGCAGAAUAUAAUUCUCAAGUUAUAUAUUGAUUUUAGUAAAUUCAUAUAAGAACGUUUUAUUAUUAAGAAUUUUAUGAAAUUAUAUAUCAUUAUUAAAUUAUAUUUAAUAUUAAUUAUUUUAAAUUGUAUAAAUUCAUAUAAGAAAAUUUAUUAUCAAGAAUUUUAUGAAAUUAUAUAUUAUUAUUAAAUUAUAUGUAAUAAUUAUUAUUUUAAAUUAUACAAAUUCAUAUAAUAUAAUUUAUUAGUUAUAAUUAUUUUAAAUUUUAUUAAAUCAUAUAUUUUAAUUAAAAUAUAUUUGAAAUAUUAUUUCAAAUUAUAGUAUCAUAUAUUAUGAUUUGAGUGAAUUCAUAUAAGAAUAUUAAUUAUUAAGAAUUUUAUUAAAUUAUAUAUUUUAAUUAUAAUAUAUUUAAUAAUAAUUAUGUUUAAAUAUGAUUAAAUUAUUUAUUAUUGAUAUUAAUAAUCUUAUUAAAAUUUAAAUAACAAUAACAAUAAUCAUUUACCAAAACAAAUUUAUGCUAAGGGUAUUCUAGUCAUUUUAGUUUUUUCCAUUAUGCUAUUACACCUCUAUUACAUUCAACCAAACACAAGAAUACUAUUAAGCCUCUAUUCCAUUACAUUCAACCAAACAAUUGAUUUGCUAUUACACAUCUAAUCCAUUACACCUCUAUUUCAAUACAGCGAACCAAACGUGCUCUAAAUGUAACACCCCAGACUUGGCCUAGACGUUAUGGCCAAAUCUAGAAGGUUACACCAGUAUGAAAAAAAAUUAUUUUUCCAAAGUCUGUUUUGUUACGAAAGUGAAAACCAAAAUUUACGUAAGUUUGUCAUGAUUCCACGAUAGGAAAAUUUGUAAAUUAUCAAAACGUAAAUGUGAACAUAUUAAUUAUUAACUUAAAAAAAAACCUAGCCUUAUACAAUCAAAAUGCUAAAAUCAUUUUCUUUGUAAAACCUGUAAUUUUGACUAAAAUUUUUGCAACGAAAAUUCCAAACUAAUAUUCGUAAAUUGUAAUUUCGUCAAGUAAAAACGUUUUAUUUAGCCGAUUGGGCAUAUUUUAAAUUUACGUUAUUAAAUUUUGUAAAAUCUCAAUUCGUAUUUUUGUGGCAAAAAAUCUUGGCUCGUAUAAUUUUGAAAACCCAACAUUGAUUGUUGAGUAACACAAAACAUACAGAACAAAAAACUUUAACUAAGCCAAAGAAACCCAAAGCAAAAUUAAAUUUGAGAAAUUAAACCAAAAUCCAAAAGUCCAGUAAAUCCAUUUAUUAACCAGAGUAAACCAUUUAAUUAGAGAAUCAAUUCGAGCUUCCGCACACUACCUGAUUCUAACUUAUCGAUUAUCUGAAACAUCAGAAAUAAAACAAAUGGAUGAGCUAUAAAGCUUAGUGCAUAACUAAAACUCAAGCCGAGAUCACACACAAUACAAUAUACAAAUCAUAAAAUCAUAGGAAAUUUCAUAACAAUCAGUCAAACAGAAUUGAGCAUACAUGAUUAUGCCAAUGCGGUGGUUUUCAGAAAAUUAUAAUGCAAUUCUUUUCAGAAAACAUCCUACCCAACACCACUACACACCCGAUUAUAGUUCCCCAAAACUCAUCCAUCUAAAAACACACCAAUUAAGUCAUCUCAGGUUGCCCGAAAACGAUGACCUACCACCUCGAGUUAGUCGGCAAUGAUGACUUAUCAAUAUGCAGUUAAACUACCAGAUUAGAUAUUUGUGAUCAAGCGAUUGUAUUGCAGCUCAGCUGCUAGAUCAAAUGUUCCUAGUGUAGUCCCUAACAUUAUUAGGUGUUCUUGGCUCAGUCCUUUGGACUUUAAAAAAAUAGAUUUGGAUAUCCAAUUAAUCAUAAAUUGCCAGGUGGUAUAUGCUGAAGUCACGAUAACAUCAUCAUCAAGAAAAAACCAAAAAAAUCUUUAAAAAAUAUCAUAAAAUUCAAAUAAACUUAUAUAAAAUUAACUACAUUAUAAAUAUAUAAUUUUUCAAAAAAUAAAAAUUCUUAAUUUUUUUAAAAUUUGUAAAAAAUAAUAAAAUUAUUAGAAAUUGUUAAAUAUUGUAAAAACAUUAUAAAAAUUAUUAGAAUCAUAAAAGACGGUAAAAAAUAAAAAGUUAAAAUACUAGUAAAAAUUGUCUAACUUGAAAUAAAGUAUACAUUUGGUAAUCAAAUUUAAAAUAUUGAAAAUUUGGUAUUAAAGUUGUAUAUAGUAAUACAAUCAAUUUUUAUAAAAAAAUAUUUUAAAAUAUUUUAAUAAAAAUCAAAUAAAUUUUAUAUCAAUUUUUUAAUAUUUUAAAAUACAUCAAUUUUUAGUACUUUACCAACGUUACUGGCAGCAAGUUUUUUCUACUCGACUCCCUAUUUAUUGUCUUAAAUAGCUUCCUGCAUCCACCAUUUUGCACAUGGUUUUUCUAUUUUAUACCAAAGCUCUUUAGAAUAGUUAAACAUUCAACAAUAGUUCUUAAGAUAUAAGUUUAGAGACAAAUAAUUAUCUUGAGAUAGUAAAACAAAAUUGAAAUAAUUAAAUAUAUUAUUUACUUGAAAUAAUAUUAUUUUUCAUUAUUUAAAUUAUUUGAGAAAAAAACUUAUUCAAGUUUAUCACGUAAAAAGAUCUACCAAUUAUAAAUUCUGAUUAGUUGAACCAUAAGACAAUUGUUAUAGGUAAUAUCCUUCCAAGAGACAAUUAUCACAUGUUCAAACUCUAGUCAAUGUGAUUUAUAAAAUUUUAAAAAUAUUAAAAUAUCUAAUAUAUAUUUGAAAAUUAUGUAAAUUUUUAUAUUUUACAUAGUUUUUUUUGUAUUUUUCUGAUUUUAGAUUUUUUCUAUUUUUAAAUAAUUUUGAUAAUUUUGUAAUUUUUCUUUUAUAAUUUUUGUCAUUUUUGAAGAUUUUUAAGGGUUUUUGUUGAUGAUGUCAUUAUGAUAGCAUCAUAUGACAUGUGGUAGUAUAUGAUUUGUUGAAUAUCCCAACGAAUUUUUUAUUGUCCAAUGAACUAAACUGAAAAUUUUUAAUAUGAUUAGGGACUGAAGUGGAUAAAAAUAUUUUAAAAACUAAAGUAUAAAUUUUUAAAAACAAUAUUUUAUAUUGUGAAUUUGGUGUGCAAUGAAUAUGUAUACUAAAAGAUGCUAUUUUACAGGUAAUUUACCACCCAUCACCAGUGCUCCAAAGCUUGAGAUUCUUUUAUUGUGGGGAAAUAAACUUGGCGGAAACAUUCUCAAUUCUAUCUCCAAUGCUUCCAUGCUUAAGAAACUAGACUUGGCACAUAACUUAUUCUCUGGCCCAAUCCCUAAAACAUUUGACAACUUAAGACACCUUGAAUGGUUCCAAAUUUCAAACAAUAAUUUGAUCAAAGGACCUGCUACUGAUCAUGAGUGGACCUUUCUUUCUUCUUUGGCAAAUUGCAAGCACUUGAGAAUAAUAGAUGUUUCAAGAAAUCCAUUGAGUGACGUUCUUCCAACUUAUAUUGGGAACCUUUCAAAAUCCCUUCAAUACUUUUAUGCCUCUAAUUGUGAGAUUACAGACAAUAUUCCUAUGUAAAUAGGUAGCUUAAGCAACCUAUUGCUUUUACAACUUGGCUAUAAUAAAUUAAGCUUUAUUCCAACACCGAUAGGACCAACUUUCCUCUAAUAAAUUAGAGGGGCCUAUAUCAGAAAGCCUUUGUGGUUUGGAGAGAUUAUACUACUUGUAUUUAAGGCUGAUUAGGUUGCAUGGAUCCAUACCCUCUUGUAUGGGUAAUAUUUCUUCUUUGAGAUAUCUUUACUUAGAUUCCAACACAUUGAGUUCUACAAUACCCUCAACUUUGUGGAAUCUUAAAGAUAUCUUAAAAAUAGAUUUAUCAUCAAACUAUCUUUACAAUUCACAUGCUAUAUUGAUGGUGGAGAUUUGAGGAGUCUACUAAAACUAAAUUUACCAAGGAAUCUUCUCACGGGCAAUAUCUUAUCCACAUUUAGGGGUCUUCCAACUUUGAUUUCAAUAGAUUUAUUAAAUAAUAUACUACAUGGUCAUAUCCCUGGAUCAUUAGGUGGUUUGAUUAGUUUGGAAUUCUUGAAUUUAUGCAAUAACAAUCUCUCUGGAGCCAUUCCCAAAUCUUUGGAAAAGCUUUUAGAUCUAAAGUAUUUUAUUGUGCCUUUCAAUAGACUUGAAGAGGAAAUUCCCACCGAGGGAUGUUUUUCAAACUUCUCUAGCACAUCAUUCAGGAAGAAUUUUGCACUUUGUGGUCCACCUAGAUUGCUACUCCCACCUUGCAAAAACGACAUCCAAGAAAACUCCCAAAUGAAUAUAUUGCAUGCUUUAAGGUAUGGUUUACCAACAAUUGGUAUUGUCGUAGUACUAAUAGUCUUAACUAUUAUGUACAGAAGAUGCCAAAGUAGGAGUACAACUCUACCAAUUAAGGAUGAUUUGUUUUCUUUGAAAACGCUGAGAAGAAUUUCACAUGCUGAACUUUCACAAGCAAUUAAUGGAUUUGAGGAAAACAAUAUGCUUGGUUCAAGGAGUUUUGGAUAUGUAUAUAAAGAGAAGCUUUCAGAUGGAAUGGAAGUUGCAAUAAAAAUUUUCAAUUUGCAAACAGAAGAAGCAUUUAGGAGUUUUGACAUUGAAUGCGAUGCUAUGCGUAAUAUAGAUCAUUGUAAUAUUGUGAAGGUCACUACUUGCUGCUCAAGUGUUGACUUCAAAGCCUUGGUGCUUGAUUACAUGUCUAAUGGAAAUAUUGAGAAAUGGUUAUAUUAUUAAAACUAUUUCCUUGAUAUCAUACAAAGGGUUGACAUGAUGAUAGAUGUUGCGUCAGCGAUAGAACAUCUCCACAACGGGCAUCCAACACCUAUAAUUCAUUGUGACUUAAAACCAAGCAAUAUUUUACUAGAUGAAGACAUAGUUGCACAUGUGGGAGAUUUUGGCGUUGCCAAAUUGUUGGGAGAAUGUGAUGUAAUGAAGCAGACCAUGACUAUUGCAACAAUCGGGUAUAUGGCACCAGGUGAAUUUUUUUAUUUAUGUAUUAUUAUUUUUCUAAUAUGGAUUUUAUAUUUUGUUUGGAUAUAUAUUUGAAUAAUCAUUUUAGAAACAAUUAAAGAUUAACGAUGCUCUAAUUAUACUUGAAAUGCAAAAUUUGGAUCAACAGGAAUUGUUUCUAUAAAGUGUGACAUCUAUAGUUAUGAGAUUGUCCUUAUACAAACUUUCACAAAGAAAAAGUCAACUGAUAAUUUUUUGCUGAAGAAGUGACUAUAAAGCAUUGGAUGGAAAGUUCAUUGCCAAAGGAGCAUGAAAAUCCCCAAAACCCUAAAUUCUCUCCUUCUAGCAAUGAAGAGAUGGUGAGAGGAAAGGAAAAAAAAUCACGUCAAAUGAAAAGAAAAGAAAAAGAAAUUGAACAAAAUUAAAUUUAUGUGGAAAUUGUUUUAAUACUUUUAAUUUGAGUUGGAAAAGGUUGAUGAUGGGGCAUAAAAUAAUUGGAUAGGACCAUAUUUGAGGUAGUGGGAAAGGUCCAAUAUGGAAUAAUUUUUCUAUGUUAUCAAAUAGAUGAAUGAUAGUAAUUGGGAUCAAACUAAUGAUUUGGAUGAUGUUAAUGGUUAAUUUGGUGGAGAGGGUGGAAAAGAAACAAAUAAUUCAUUAUAUGUAAUAUAUAGUAAGUUUCAUACAUAAAAGUUUCAUACAAGGUUCAAAGGCAACUAAAUGACUUGUAAGUUAGUUGAACUUCUUUGAAAGGCGCAAAGGCAAUUGAACAUUUACAAAAUAGUCUGUAAAUACUGUAGACACAAAUCAAAUCCAUGGGAGCAUUACAAUUGGUUAAAUUGAGCAUUGGCAGAAAUUCCAUCAUAGGAAAUAUUGGCAAAAUCGUCUAUUGAAUUAGAAAAACAACAUAAUCCAUGAAACAUAGAUAGCCCAAUACAAACGUCAUCGAGAAAAAAAAGUCUUUUUGUUUUAUAGCACAUGAUAGUAAAGCAUGCGAAGUUUCAUUCUUCUUAUUGGCCUCCUUUAGUUUUCCUUGAUCAACAACCACUAGCCAAAAACACAAUUAGAUUAGAUUAUAAAUGAAACAUUCAAUUAUGAUAAUUUAAAUAGAAAACACCCUAAAUAACUCUAAAUAAAUGAAAAGUAGCAAAUUACCUGGUGAGGCAGGCUAGCUCAAUUAAGAGCACCGUUGUGUUAGACUUGUCUAUGCAUUAAACAAUCUAAAAGAAAAUGAAGAAAAAGACUUAGAAAACACUUGAAAAUUGACAAAAUUUUUAUGCCAUUGACUGGUUAAACUAUGAUCACCCAUAACAGAUCUUGUAUUUGAGUUUUUGUUGAGGGAGAUCAAGUCCUUCAAGAAAAGUUUUCUAAGUGCUGUCUGUUAGGUAAUCGCUGCUAUCCUCAACAAAAGAUAUUGUCCCCAUGUCAAGAUUUUAUCCUCAGCCUUCAUGGAAUAAUCAUGGAGAUUACAUGUGCAAGGAUUCAAACCACCAACCAAUACAUAUGUAGCAUUUACCUUGGAACCAUCUCCGUGAAUCCACAAGGUUCUUCACGGAAUCAAGAGACAAAACCUCAACACAAGAAUAAUACCAUCUAUUGAGGGGUCCUUUAACACAACAAAUGAAAUUCAUUCAUUUUUUUAAUCAAAGUAAAUAUCAUAUUUAAUUGGGGAAAAGCAACAAAAAAUCUAACAAUAAAAUCCUUAGCAAAAGAUUAAAACACAUUUAUAUCGUAAAUGACAUAAGAAACUCCAAUCUAACAAAGAAAAUAACUUGAUGCUCCAAAGCUACCAUAUACUGUAAUUCAUGGGAAGGUCUGAUGCUCAUUUUAUUGGUUUCCAUCUUGAUUUUGCAAAAGAAGUUUGAAUUCUGAAGAGAGCAAAUGAUUGAGCGAAAGAAAAAAAUUUAGUUUAUUAAUUUUCACAAUUUAUAAGACAAACCUUAUGGAGACAAAUAAUGACAUAUUAGAUAUUUGUGAUUAAAAGUCUAGAAUAGAUUAAAAAUGUUGAAUUAAUGAUAAAAUUAAUAGUGAAUUAAUAACAACAAGCGUACUGAUUACUUAGCUUCUUUGUUAAACAUUUUUGAUGUUGUUUAACAGCCUUCUUUUGAUUUUCUUUAGCUCAACGACAAAAUCUUUCAUAUCUUUUCUUUCUUCUGGUAACUCAGCUGAACAAUUCAAAGCCAACUCCAUGAUGGAUGAAAUACAAUUUGCUUUAACAACAAUGUACUCAUCCUCUCUUCUUAGUAAAUUAACAUCUGCAAUUUCUAUCGCUCCUUUAGGCAAUGAACUUUCCAUCCAAUGCCUUAUAGUCACUUCUUCAGCAAAAAAAAAUUAUCAGUUGGCUUUUUCUUUGUAAAAGUUUCUAUAAGGAUGAUCCCAUAACUAUAGACGUCACAUUUUAUACAAACAAUUCCUGUUGAUCCAAAUUCUGCAUUUCAAGUAUAAUUAGAACGUCAUCAAUCCUUAAUUUUUUCUAAAAUGCUUAUUCAAAUAUAUAUCCAUAUACGCAUGAAACAAAAGUAUAAAAUGCAAAUUAGGAAAAUAAUCAUACAAAAAAAAACAAGUAAUGACCUUUACAAUAUUACUAUGAACAAUAUUACGCAUAGCAUCACAUUCAAUGUCAAUACUCCUAAAUGCUCCCUCUGUUUGCAAAUUAAAAACUUUUAUUGCAACUUCCAUUCCAUCUGAAAGCCUCUCUUUAUAUACAUAUCCAAAACUCCUUGAACCAAGCAUAUUGUUUUCCUCAAAUCCAUUAGUUACUUGUGAAAGUUCAGCAUGUGAAAUUCUUCUCAGCGUUUUCAAAGACAACAAAUCAUCCUUAAUUGGUAGAGUUGUACUCCUACUUUGGCAUCUUCUAUACAUAAUAGUUAAGACUAUUGGUAAUACGACAAUACCAAUUGUUGGUAAACCAUACCUUAAAGCAUGCAAUAUAUUCAUUUGGGACUAGCAAUCUCGGUGGACCACAAAGUGCAAAAUUCUUCAUGAAUGAUGUGCUAGAAAAGUUUGAAAAACAUCCUUCGGUGGGAAUUUCCCCUUCAAGGCUAUUGAAAGACACAAUAAAUACUUUAGAUCUAACAGCUUUUCCAAAGAGUUGGGAAUGGCUCCAGAGAGAUUGUUAUUGCAUAAAUUCAAGAAUUCUAAAUUAACUAAUCAAACCACCUAAUGAUCCAGGGAUAUGACCAUGUAGUUUAGUACUUAAUAAAUCUAAUGAAAUCAAAGUUUGAAGACUCCCAAAUGUGGAUAAGAUAUCGCCUGUGAGAAUAUUCCUUGAUAAAUUUAGUUUCAAUAAACUCCUCAAAUUUCCAACAUCAAUAACAUGUGAAUUGUGAAGAUGGUUUGAUGAUAAAUCUAUUUCUAAGGUAUCUUUAAGAUUCCACAAAGUUGAGGGUAUUGCAGAACUCAAUUUGUUGGAAUUUAAGUAAAGAUAUCUCAAAGAAGUAAUAUAACCCAAACAAGAGGGUAUGGAUCCAUGCAAGUUAUUCAACCCUAAAUACAUCUCGUAUAGUCUCUCCAAACCACAAAGGCUUUUUGAGAUAGGUCCUCCUAAUUUAUUCGAGUGAAAAGUUAGACUUUGGAGAUUUCUCAUUCCUCCUAUUGAUGCUGGAAUAAAUCCACUUAAUUGAUUAUACCCAAGUUGUAAAAGCAAUAGGUUGUUUAAGUUACCUAUUUCCAUAGGAAUAUUUCCUUUAAGCUCACAAUUAUUGGCAAAAAAGUAUUGAAGGGAUUUUGAAAGGUUCCCGAUAUAAGUAGGAAGAACAUCACUCAAUGGAUUUCCUGAAACAACUAUUCUUCUCAAGUGCCUGCAAUUUGCCAAAGAAGAAAGAAAGGUCUACUCAUGAUCAAUAGCAGAUCCUGUGUGUUAGUCAUAUAGUUUAAUUUAAUUUUAGUUAGUUAGUUAGCAGUUAUGUUUCUGUUAUUUUCUUACUGUUAUUUCAUUUCCAAUUUGUAUAUAACAACACCUUUACAUCAAAUAUAAUUUGAGCAAUUUUCUUUUACUCUUAUUCUACAUGGUGUUAGAUGUAAAAUUCUUCUAUUCUCUAGCAUUUUCUUGCAGUUAUAAUUUUCCUACACUUUCUUGCUUCCCAAACACUCUGUCUCUUUGAUUUUUUUCCCUACGAUGUCACUCCAUGAUCCUAUGCUACCUUCUUGUCCUUAUUAUCUUCAUCCCAAUGAAAAUCCAACCUUAAUUCUUGUUUCUCCUGUCCUAUCUAGCUCAAAUUAUCAUUCUUGAUCUCGAGCAAUGACAAUGGCGCUUUUGUCCAAGAACAAGCUUUAGUUCGUUGAUGGCACCAUCACAGUUUUGCUCCCAACAGAUCCUCUUUAUUUAGCCUGGGAACGGUGUAAUACUAUGGUGCUUUCUUGGCUGCAUCACUCCAUCUCGCCUUCGAUCAUGAACAGUAUUCUUUGGCUCGAUUUUGCUAUGCUGUUUGGUACGAUCUCUGUGAACGUUUUUCUCAAGGAGAUGUGUUCCACAUUCUAAUCUCCAAGAAGAGAUCAAUGCUUUCAAGCAAGAUGACCGCUCGGUCACUGAUUACUUUACUGAGUUGAAGAUUCUCUGGGAUGAGUUGAUGAAUUUUCGACCGAUUCCCAUCUGUUCUUGUCCAACAUCUUGUUCUUGUGGUGUUUUUGCUACUCUUCAGAAAUAUCAUGAUAAUGAUUAUGUUAUUCAAUUUCUUAAAGGCCUUCAUGAUUGUUUUGCUGUUGUUCACUCUCAAAUUAUGAUCUUUGAUACGUUGUCUCUGAUCAAUAAAGCUUUUUCUUUGGUCAUUCAACAGGAACGCCAUCUUACUACUGGAUCUUCUCAAGUGUUUGUUACUAACACACUGCGCCAACACUCUUCUUCCAAGAAAUCUCAAGCAAAAUCGUUUCCUGACUCAUGGUAGUGCACCUUUUGUGAUAAAUCUAGGCAUACUGUUGAUACCUGCUAUGAGAAACAUUGUUAUCCACCUAGUUAUAAGUCUUGUGGUCGGGUUUCUCAUGCACACACAGUGCUUAAUGAUGGUGCUACACAACACUUGAACUCUUCACAGUCUAUUGCUAUCUUGCCAUAUGAUUUUUCUGUUACUUUGACACAAGACCAAUUACAAUAGCUGCUUUGAUUGCUUCCAUCUUCCAACUCUCCCUCCCCACCUCAUGUUACCAACACUAUCUCUUCCUUACAUCAAAUGCCUUCUACAUCCUCAAGUAACCUCUUUUCCUUUCAAUCCCACUAUUGGAUCAUAGACACUGGUGUGACUGAUCACAUUACACACUCUUUAUCCUUCUUUGCCUCUUUUCAUUCAAUUAAACCUGUAUAUAUCACUCUUCCAAAUGGCACCAAAGUCUGUGCUCGAAUUUCUGGUACAGUCAUUUUCAGUGAUAGCCUUUAUAUUACAAAUGUUCUUUAUGUUCCUCAAUUUACUUUCAACCUCUUAUCUGUCACUAAACUUACUGCUACAUUACCUUGUUCAUUUACUUUUCACAAACUUAUUGCUCCUUACAGGCCCUUCCCUCUUUGAAGAUGAUUGGUACAGCUAAAUUUUUUCAUGGUCUUUAUAUUUUGGACUCCCCAGCUCAAACCUUCUCCAUUCCCUGUUGGUGCUGUAACUGAAACUAACAGAUUCAGUACAGACUUGUCGAGCAAUUCUCGAGACUUGCUGAGCAAAUAAGAGAAUUCGAGCAAGAGAAAGGAAGAAAAGCUAAGAGAAAAUGAAGAGAAAAAUUGAUGAACAAACUGAACUUCAUUCAUAAAAUUGACUAAUGGCAUAAUGCCAAUACAUAAACCAAGCACUAAGCUUGUCAAAAACAGCAAAUAAUUACCUAAACAUCACCUACUCCCACUAAUUACAUGGAAACUUGAAAUUUUAGCUUGUAAACCUAUACAAAGUUGUGUUUACAGCUCAUACAUAAGCUAAUUACAUCAGUCAACAACCUAACUUAGUUAGAAAUGAACUAAGAUUACAUUUCAUUGACUAGAAAUUACAAAAUAAAUAAAAUAAGCUUGCAUCAGCAGCUCCUGCAUGUCUUGGUCUUCAUGGCCUGCAUGCUGUCGAGUUUGCUGCAUGCUGAACCAACUUCAUCACUCCUCCUUGGUUUGCAUGGAGCAAACACCUAACUUCUUCCUUAGACAUUCGAACCUUGUGACACUAAGGGCUUUCGUUAAAAUGUCUGCAAGUUGAUCCUCUGAAUUACAGUGGAUCAGCUUUACUUCUUGAGCUUGCUCCAUUUCUCGAACAACAUGUAACUUGAUGCUAAAAUGCUUUGUUCUUCCAUGGAACAUUGGAUUUUUAGCAAUUGCUACUGCAGAUUGGUUGUCACAGAAGAUCUCAGUAGCUUCCUCUUGAUGCACAUUCAAGUUAGCCAAUAUUUUCCUUAGCGAUAUGGCUUGGUUGACAGCACUUGCUGUUGCCACAUACUCUGCUUCAGCAGUAGAUUGAGCCACUAGACUUUGCUUCUUCGAGCUCCAGCAAAACAUGGCUGAACCAUGGUUAAAAGCAUACCCUGAGGUGCUUUUCAUGUCAUCUAUCGAGCCAGCCCAGUCACUAUCAGUGUAGCCAACCAGCUUCAGAUUUCCUUCUUUGCUGUACUUCAAACCAUAGUUUAAAGUGCCUUUGACAUAUCUCAGCACUCUCUUUGCAGCUUGGAAAUGCUUCUCAUUGCAGCAAUGCAAGAACCUUGAGAGCAAUCCUACAGCAUACAUGAUGUCUGGUCUAGUGGCAGUCAAGUAUAGCAAGCAACCAACUAGACUCCUGUAGGUUGUUUCACAUACUUUCUCAAAAUCACCUUGGCUCGAUAGUUUUUCUCCAACAGCAAUAGGUGUUUUAGUUGCCUUGCUGUUUUGCAUGGAGAACUUGGUCAGAAUCUUUGAGGCAAAGCUUCUCUGGCUUAGAAAUAUCUCAUUCUGUACUUGAGACACCUCCAUUCCAAGAAAAUAGGACAUCUCCCCAAGAUUAGACAUUUCAAACACUUCCUGCAUCCUGGUCUUGAAAUCAGCCAGCACUACUCGAUUUCCUCCUGUCACCAGAAGGUCAUCAACAUACAGGGACACAAUGAGUUGUAUUUGUGUCCCUUGUUUCUUGACAUAUAGUGUUGGCUCACUCUUGCUUCGAUCGAAUCCCAGAUCAGUCAAGUAGCCAUCGAUUCUGCUGUACCAAGCCCUUGGAGCCUGUUUUAAUCCAUAUAGGGCCUUCUUCAGUUUGUAGACCAUAUGCUCUCUGCCAGCUAUUUCAAACCCUUGUGGUUGUUCAACAUAGAUGUCUUCAUCUAAGAAACCAUUCAGAAAGGCUGAUUUCACAUCAAGUUGAUGGAUUUUCCAUUCGAGCUGUGCUGCUAAGGCAAUCAGCAGUCUGAUGGUGUCGAGCCUGCCCACUGGUGCAAAGGUCUCCAGGUAGUCCAGGCCGUACCUCUGACUGAACCCCUUGACAACUAGCCUUACUUUCAGUUUGUUCAAGGUUCUAUCAGCAUUGUGCUUGACUUUGUACACCCAUUUCACCCCAAUCACCUUCUUUUUGACUGGCCUUUCAACCAAUUCUCAGGUCUGGUUCUUCUCAAUCAUGCUGAUCUCCUCAGCCAUUGCCUGCUUCCACCCUUGCUGAGCCUCAGCCUCUUCAAAGUUGCUUGGUUCAGCUAUGGCUACAUGAGCCCUUUCAUAAAUCUCAGUCAAUGGCCUUGUUCCUCUAACUGGUUCAUCAUCAAUGUCCAUUUCUGGAACAUUUUGGUCUGGCUCAGCUUGGUCUGUUGCUAGUUCUUCAGAAACUUCUUCAGGUUCAUGUCUUUCCUAGUUCCAACAUGACCUUUCAUCAAAUACCACAUCCCUUCUAAUUGACACCUUAUUUGUUGAAGGAUCCAAGAUCCUAUAGCCCUUCUUAACAGUGCUGUAGCCCACCAGUACACCAGGUUGAGCCCUUUCAGACAAUUUGUCCCUUUUAACAGCAGGUACAUGUGCAUAACAGAUGCAUCCAAAGACCUUCAGAUGAGCCAGUGAUGGCUUGAAGCUAAACCAGGCCUCGAAUGGAGUCUUCUGAUCCAAAGCCUUGGUUGGAAGUCUAUUUUGAAUGUAUGUUGCGGUGUUAACUGCUUCUGCCCAUAGUGCUUUAGGUAGAUUCUUCUGAAUCAUCAAGCACCUAGCCAUAUCCAUCAAACUCCUAUUCUUCCUUUCACUUACACCAUUCUGCUGAGGUGUAUAUGUGUUGGUAAGUUGAUGUUUGAUGCCUGCCUUAUCACAGAAGGCUUGGAACUGAGCUGAGGUGUACUCAGUCCCAUUAUCAGACCUUAUGGUCUUCAGCUUGCAGCCUGUUUCAGUCUCAGAAGUAGUCUUGAACUUCCAAAACACUGAGGCCACUUCAGAUUUUUGUUUUAAGAAGUAAAUCCAGCAAUAUCUUGAAAAAUCAUCAAUGAACAGUAUAAAAUACCUGUUUCCACUUAAUGACUCAGUCUUCAUAGGGCCACACACAUCAGUAUGCACCAGUUGGAGUUUUUCAGAGGCUCUCCAGGCUUGAUUCGAGGGAAAUAGGAGUCUGGCCUGUUUUCCUAAUUGACAUGCUUUACAUACAUCAUCAUGGUCCACUGAGUUGAUGAAAUUUUCAGCCAGGUCCUCUCUGACCAUUCGGGCCAUCGAUCUGAAGUUGGCAUGUCCCAGUCUUUGAUGCCACAGCUUGGAUUCAUCUGAAGUGGCUGUGUAGGCAAUGUCUGACUUUUUUGUCCAGUCAACCACAAAGCUCUUAUCAGCCAUAGGGACUGCCAUCAGUUUGGAUCCACUUGGAUCACUGAUUUGGCACUGGUGGUCUUUAAACACAACUGAAUAACCUUUUUCCAGCAAUUGAGCUAUGCUGAGCAGGUUUCUGUCAAUUUCAGGCACCAACAGCACAUUUGAAAUCACUUUGGUACCUGUAAGGGUGCAUAUCAGAACAUCAACCUUGCCUUCAGCUUGAAUAAAAUGACCAUUUCCUAUCUUGACUUUAGUUCUGUAGCUUCUGUCUAAAGACUUGAAGAUUGCAGCAUCAGGUGUCAUGUGGUUGGUGCAUCCACUGUCUAGGAGCCAACCAGAUGAGGACCUUUCCUGAGCAGCUGAGCAUGACACAGCAAAGACUUGCUCCUCUUGAUCACUGUCCUCCUUAGCUACUCGAGCCUCAACUUUCAUCUGUUGAAACUGAUUCUGCCUCGAUUUGGUCUUACUCUUACAGACUCUCUCAACAUGACCCUUCUUCUUACAAUACUGACAUACAGCUUCUAGAUUAAACCAGCACUUUUCUUCUGGAUGACCAACCCUUCUGCAGUGCUUGGCAUCAUUCUUUGGUUUGUCUCUCCAGGCCUUCUUGCCUUUGUAAGCAGUAUUUGUUCUUGCCUGAAAGGCACAUUCUUGGUGCUCCUCCAGUCUGCUUGCUCUCCUCUACUCUUGAGCAUAUAGAGCAUUGAUCAACUCUAUCAGGGAGAUGGUGGACAGAUCUCUUGAGUCCUCGAGAGAUGAGAUUUUUGCCUCAUACCUCUCAGGCAGAGUUGCUAUAACCUUCUCCACUAUCCUAGCUUCAUUGAACUGCUCUCCAAGGAGCCUGAUGCUGUUAACCACAGCCAUAAUCCUGUCAGAAUAUUGCUUGAUAGUUUCUUCUUCCUUCAUCUUCAAAUUCUCGAAAUCUCUCCUCAAGUUUAACAACUGUUGCUGCCUUGUCCUCUCUGUCCCUUGAAACUCUUCCUGCAACUUGUCCCAGGCCUGUUUUGGUGAUUCACAGGCCAUAAUCCUUGUGAAAAUCACAUCAAACACUGAAUUCUGGAUGCAAGACAUGGCUUUGUGCCUCUUGGUCCUCUCAUCAGCAUACUGCCUGAUCUGAGCCACUGUUGGAUUGCCUCUAAGUGGUUCUGGUUCAACAUCUAAGUUGACCACCUCCCACAGAUCGUAUGCCUACAGGUAGGUCUUCAUUUUGACCACCCAUAUGUGAUAGCCUUCUCCAUUGAAGACUUGAGGUACAGCUGGUGAAAAGCUUGAUGAAGCCAUGUAUUUGUAUAACAGAUCCCUUAAGAAAUAGGCUCUAGAUACCAAUUGUUGGUGCUGUAACUGAAACUAACAGAUUCAGUACAGACUUGUCGAGCAAGUCUCGAGACUUGCUGAGCAAACAAGAGAAUUCGAGCAAGAGAAAGGAAGAAAAGCUAAGAGAAAAUGAAGAGAAAAAUUGAUGAACAAACUGAACUUCAUUCAUAAAAUUGAAUAAUGGCAUAAUGCCAAUACAUAAACCAAGCACUAAGCUUGUCAAAAAUAGCAAAUAAUUACCUAAACAUCACCUACUCCCACUAAUUACAUGGAAACUUGAAAUUUUAGCUUGUAAACCUAUACAAAGUUGUGUUUACAGCUUAUACAUAAGCUAAUUACAUCAGUCAACAACCUAACUUAGUUAGAAAUGAAAUAAGAUUACAUUUCAUUGACUAGAAAUUACAAAAUAAAUAAAAUAAGCUUGCAUCAGCAGCUCCUGCAUGUCUUGGUCUUCAUGGCCUGCAUGCUGUCGAGUUUGCUGCAUGCUGAACCAACUUCAUCAUUCCCAUUCCCACUACCUUGUCAGCUACCACCCCUUCAUGUUCCCUUUGGCAUCAUCAUCUCGGUCACCUUUCUGAUUCUAGAUUGAAGCUACUUUCCCCUUACAUUCCUUCUUUGUCUAUGAUAAAUAAUGCAAAUUGUACAGCAUGUCAUUUGGCAAAACAAAAGAAAAUACCUUUCCAUGUAAGCACUUUUGUUUCCAAUAAAAUAUUUGAACUUGUUCAUAUUGAUAUUUGGGGCCCGACUGAAGUUGUUUCUAUCACUGUUCAUCAUUAUUUUUUAACCAUUGUUGAUGAUUUCAGUCAUUUUACUUGGAUCAUUUUAUUGAAAGCAAAAUCUGAAGCUCGUACUCAUAUUCAAAAUUUUUCCACACUUAUUGAAACUCAAUUUUCCUCCAAAAUUAAAGUCAUUCAAACUGAUAAUGGCUGUGAGUUUGCUAUUCCAGCUUUUUAUGCUUCAAAAGGUAUUAUUCUUUGAACCUCAUGUGUUGAAACUCCACAACAAAACGUUCUUGUUGAACAUAAGCACCAACACAUUCUUAAUGUGUCACGGGCUCUCUUAUUUCAUUCUGGUCUACUUAAGCAUUUUUGGGGACAUGCUAUUCUUCAUUCUAUUUUUCUUAUUAAUCGCACCCCAACUUCUCUUUUGGCUAACCUUACACCUUUCGAGAAACUAUACCAAACUAAGCCUAAUUUUUAGCAUGUAUGUGUCUUUUGUUGUCUUUGUUUUGCUACAACCCUUACUGCUCAUCAUCACAAAUUUGAUCCUCGAGCACGUGAGUGUGUUUUUCUUGGAUUUCCACCACAUGUUAAAGGUUAUAUUCUUUUUGACCUGUCAUCUCAUGCCAUAUUUGUCUCAAGAAAUGUCAUCUUUCAUGAGCCAGUCUUUCGUUUUUCUCAUCCACCAUCUCCUUCCUCCACCCCACGAUUGACCUUUGACCCCUCCAUUACUUAUGAUUUGCCACCUCAACCACAAGUCCCACCUCUUGCUCCCUUCGUCUUAGGAAACCACCUUCUUAUUUAGACCAAUAUCAUUAUUUUUUAAGCAAUGCUACUACCAAUCAUCCUCGAUGCCUUACACCCUUUACUCUUGCCAUUAAUGCUUCUUCUAUACCUACUACAUAUUUACAAGCUAGUAAAAUUUCCCAUUGGCGAGAAGCAAUGCAAGUUGAAAUUUUUGCUCUUGAACAAAAUAACACUUGGAUCAUUAUGGACUUACCUUUAGGCAAGACUGCAAUCGGUUGUAAAUGGGUUUAUCGAGUGAAAUACCGAGCUAAUGGUUCUAUUGAACGUUACAAGGCCUGUUUGGUUGCUAAGGGGUUCACACAAAUCGAGGGUGUCGAUUAUUUUGAUAAUUUUUCCCUGUCGCAAAGCUUACCACCGUUCACUUGUUACUUGCUAUUGUUGCUUCUAAAAAUUGGCUUUUGCACUAGCUUAAUGUUAACAAUGUGUUUUUGCAUGGAGAUUUGACUGAAGAGGUUUAUAUGCUUCUACCUCCUGGUUUUGAUUCAUCAACUCUCAAUAGGGUUUGUAAGUUGCAAAAAUCCUUAUAUGGUCUAAAGCAAGCAAGUUGACAGUGGUUUGCUAAACUCACAUCAGCUCUUACUUCUCUUGGUUAUAUUCAAUCCAGUUCUGAUUUCUCCUUAUUUGUUAAAAAGGAUGACAUUUAUUUUAUUGCAUUAUUAGUUUAUGUUGGUGAUGUUAUUCUAGCUGGUGAUCAUUUCGAUGAAAUAUCAAGAGUUAAAGCCUUUUUGGAUUCUACAUUUAGCAUCAAAGACUUGAGUGAUCUAAAGUAUUUUCUUAGCCUUGAGGUUGCUCGCAGCUCUGCUAGUAUUCAUCUUUGUCAACGAAAAUAUGCCAUAGACAUACUAUCUAACUUUGGUUUCUCAGAUUGCAAGCCUGGUAAGACUCCAAUGGCCACCAAAAUUCCUCGAGAUGCCUCUGCAGAUUUGCUUCCUAACAACACUCUUUUCAGGAAACUUAUUAGUCGCCUCUUGUAUCUGGUUUCCACUAGACCUGAUCUUGCUUUUGCAAUUCAACAGUUGAGUCAAUUCUUGGACUGACCUACAGUCAUUCAUCUCCAAGCUACUCAUCGAGUUCUUCGCUAUCUGAAUGGCUGCCUUGAUUUUGGUCUCUUCUUUUCUACUUCUUCAUCACCUGUACUGAAGGCUUUUAGUGAUUCUGACUGGGUUGGUUGUCCUCUCACAUGCCGUUCUGUGACUGGUUAUUGCCUGUUUUAUGGUGAUUCCCUUGUUAGUUGGAAAGCCAAUAAGUAAAGCACUGUGUCCCAUUCUUCCUCAGAGGCAGAAUAUCGUGCCCUUGCCUCUAUUAUUUGUGAAAUUCAGUGGCUUCGAUUUCUUUUAUGUGAUUUGCACUUGUCUAUUUCUGGUCCUACUACCUUGUUUUGUGACAAUAAUUCUGCUCUUCAGAUUGCUGCAAAUCCUACGUUUCAUGAAUGUACUAAACAUAUCAAAAUCGACUGUCAUCUUGUUCGUGAAAAGGUGCAGUCCGGUGUCGUUAAACUGCUUCCUUGUUCUUCCAAGGAUCAACUUGCUGAAAUCUUCACUAAAGCUCUUGCUACUGUUCCUUUUCAGCUUAUAUUGUCCAAGUUGGGAUUGUUUCCCAUACACUCUCCAGCUUGAGAGGGGCUGUUAGUCAUAUAGUUUAAUUUAAUUUUAGUUAGUUAGUUAGCAGUUAUGUUUCUGUUAUUUUCUUGUUGUUAUUUCAUUUCUAAUUUGUAUAUAACAACACCUUUACAUCAAAUAUAAUUUAAGCAGUUUUCUUUUACUCUUAUUCAGCACUGUGAUCAAAUUAUUAUUUAUGAUUCGGAGCACUUCAAGGUGUCUUAAGUUGCCAAGCGUUUUAGGAAUUGGGCUAGAGAAUAAGUUAUCUUCCAAGGCUAGAUUCUUAAGCAUGAAAGCAUUGGAGAUAGAGUUGGUAAUUGAUACGAGUCACAAAAGCCCAAAUUCUUGAAGGCGAGGCCCAAUAAGCAAAUUCCCAGCCCAAUCAAGAAAUCCAUACAUACUUAGUUGAAAAUCUGGCCAAAUUAUCAAAGUGGCCCAAGUUGUAAUUUAUGUAAAUAUUCAGUCCAAGAGUCCCAAAUAAAGACCUUUGACCGAAUUUCCAUAUUAAAAUAAUUAGGAGUUUUUUUAUUUUAGUUUUCUAAUUAGAUUAGGACUAGUUAUAAGGCCUAUUUAAAGGCAUGGCUGACCACCUUGUAAAGAACUUCUCAAUGAUAUCAAAAAUAUCAGAUUUGUUUAAGUGCAGAAUUCUCUUUGAGUUUUUCUCCAAGAAUCCUCUCUUGAGUUUUCUUUAGAAGUUGUUUUAACAAUCUUUUGAUUGUGGGAGCCAUCUUCAGCCUUCUUCUUGCCAUUGACAUUCUUUGGAGGGGAGAUUAGAGCCGUUUGAAGGGAGUUGUGAGAUCUUUCGGGAUUUCAAGGCUUCUUAGGACUUAUCUUUUAAUUUCUUGUUGUCAAUUCUUUCUUUAUUUCUGCUUGUGCUGAAUCUGUAUCUAAUUUAUUUUCUGUUCUUAUUGUGUUUUCAGCCUUUUUUCUAUCUUAAGGAAUCACCCCAAAAAUCCCCAAUUUCCAGGGUUCUUCCAUACUCUUUUUGAGUGAAAUUAGAUUGUCAAAAUUUGGGGAAAAACUAUCUUGGUGUUCAAUUGGGCAGAAUCGCAAUCUCCUUUAGGGUUUCAAGAACCCUUAUUAACACUUAUUUCUAUUUUCAAUUUGAUUCUUUGCUAAUUUGGGGAUUUUAUUUCAGAUCUGGAAAUUCAAAAUUCUAAUCUUUUAAUUUUCUGUUUCGUUUCAGAUCUGAUUGUUUAGAGCUUUCAUAGGAGUUUCCCGUGACUUGACGACUCGAUCUUGGUCCGCGCGCAACCCCCGUAUCAGUAAUAUUUCAGCUAAAUUUAUUUCCCCACAAUACAAGGUUCUCAAGUUUUGGAGCAUUGGUAAGGGUGGUAGAGUACCUGCAAAAUAGCAUUUUAAUAUACAUAGUCAUUGGAUACCAAAUUCACAAAAUAUAUAAUACAUUAAAAUACAUUUUUUUUAAAAAAAAUUGUAAAAAUUUAAAUCAAAUAAAAAUAAAAUUUUGGCCUGGAAAAAUGUGAUCAAAUCAAUUAGUCCCUUGUGAUUUGUAUAAAAAAAAUAAAAUAAAACCAUUCCAUACCAGUAUUGUAUUUGAUUUAAUGAUAGAGUUGUAAGUUACUUGUAAAAAUUACAUGCUUUAGUAUAUAAAUUUUGUCCAAGCCUUGGGUUGAAAUCAUGGUUACUUUUUAGAUCUAAAAUUGAUUGAAUAUCAAAUUUGUAAAAUAUUGUAAAAUUUUGAAUCAAAUAAAAACAAAACUUUGGCAUGAAAAUGUGGCAUCUAAUCAAUUUUAAAAAUGACAUUGACACUGAAUACGAAAUUAUGAAUAAAAAUUAGUUAUGAUUUGGGAAACAAAAAUAUUAAAUUAUUCUGUAUGAUUUAGUAUUAGUUAUUAUUUUGAAUGAUAUUAUUGAUUUUUAAUUACAUGAAGUAAAACUAUGUAUGUUCAAUAUGGUUUUAAUUAUUGCUUUAAAUUUUAUUAUUAUAUUUCAACUACUAUAUAAUAUUUUAAUUACGUUUAGCCAUUUGAAUAGCAAACUAAAAAAGUAAUUAAAAACUAAUUACUUCUUUAAGUAUAAUGGAAAUUAAAAAUUUUAAAAAUAAAUCAAUUCAUAUAAAUUUUAUUGUUCAUUAUCAAAUUAAUACAUUUUAAUAGAUGAUAAAAUAUAUGAGCAAAAAAGAAGAAACAAAUUAAAGAGAAUGUUUUUGGAGUUUGGAAAAAAUUAAAGUGAAAAACAUACCUUCUAAUUUGUUGUCACAUAGAUCUAUUUCUUCGAGCGUAGUUGAAUUAAAAAACACUUUUCGGAAUCAGCCCACUGAAUUGAUUUGCUGCUAAAUCCGAAUUCUGAAGCUUGUAACAUUCACUUAUACUUGAUGGAAUGUUACAGAUAAUUCAUUUGUAUCCAAGUAAAGCCCCUCAAACUUGGGAAGAUGUUGACACAUAUCAUUAAGUAAACUACCUGAUAGGCUAUUGCAGGAGAGAUUAAUAGUCUUCAAAGAAGAAAUAUUGAAGAUAGAAGACGAAAUCUGACCUGUAAGGUAUUUAAUUACUGUAAUACUAAGCAUUUCAAACAUUACUAAUAUAAACAAAUUAUGGAAGUAAGAAAGUGUGCAUAAUAAAAUCAAAUUGUAUAAAAUAUUUAAAACAAAAUUUUGAUUAACUGAUAAAUUUAAGAUUUUAUGUAUUGAAGUUGUUCAAAUCUCACUAUUAUUUUUUGUUUUGUUUUUUAAAUAAAAAGACUAGAGUAUCUCAAAUAGUAUAACUUAUUUUAAAUAGGAAAGGAUAUUUUUUAAAUUUCUCUAAUCAAGUUGGUGCUCAUUGACUCGUAACACCAACUUCAUCCGAUACUUAAAUAACAAUAUAGAUAUUCACAUUCACCAAAAAAGUAAAAAAAAUGUUACUUUAGUUUCAAAUAACAAAUUUUAAUUAUUUAUAUAAUCUAAUCUAUCAUAUUUAUAUUAAUUAUAUAUCAUUUACAAACUUUUCACAUAAAUUUAUUGACUAUUAAGAAAAGAAAAAAUGAAAUUAAAUAAUGAAUAACUUAAUUGACAAUAUAUCAAUUUUUAUAUUUUCUACAUAUGCUUUAAUGAUGAUCAAAUUUUUUUUAUUAGCACUAUUUUUGAAUUAAAAGAACUUAUUAAUAUAAUUUAAUUAUAUUUUGAAUAAUGUUACUCUUUUUUAAUUACAUGAACUAAAAUCAUAUUAUAUAUUAAAGAGGGUACAUAUGCUUUAAUUAUAGCUUGAAAUUUUAUUAUUACAUUUGAGUUAUUAAAUAAAUUAAUAUAUUUUAAUUAUAUUCAACCAUUUGAAUAACUAAUUAGAAUAAUUUUAAAAAACAUUAUUUAAAAGCUAUGUAUAUAAAUGUCUAUGUAUAUAUAUGGUUGUUUCAUUUUUUAAAAAUAAAUAUAUUUUCAAUGUUGGUUUCUUUUCUUCCACACACAAAGUAUUUCUAAUGUGUUUUUUUUUUAAUAACUUUUACUUAUAUAAAAUAGAUUAGUUAAUGCAAUAACAAAUUAAUUUCUUUUUUAAGUUUAAUGGAAAUUAAAAUAAAUAAAUUCAUAUAAAUCUUAUUGUUUAUUAUCAAAUUAAUAGAUGAUAAAGUAAAUGACAAAAAGAAAAGGACGAAUUAAAUUCAAUAGAACGUUUUUGGACUUGUGGAAAAUUUUAAAGUGAAAAACAUACCUUCUAAAUUGUUGUCAAAUAGAUAUAUUUCUUCGAGAAUAGUUGAAUUAAAAAUACUUUUUGGAAUCAGCCCACUGAAUUGAGUUGUUGCUAAAUUCAAAACCUGAAGCUUGUUACAUUCGCCUAAACUUAAUGGAAUCUGACCACCACACGUACUUAACAUAAGUUAAAGAGGUUUUCUUUUCUAUAAUUUGGAGAUGUUAUAUUUUAAUGUAUUUAAUCAUAUUUUUCAUCAAAUUAACUAUUUUGAUUUUAAUGAAAUAAAAAGCUUUUACUUUUUUUUUUAUAAAAAAUACUUUAAAUUAAAGAAACCAAAGAAAUUUAGUACCUUCUAGAUUAUUAAACCCCAAAUAUAAAUGUCUAAGUCGCGUCAGGUUUCUAAUACCUCUUGGAAUGAUCCCUGUGAAUUGAUUAAUGGACAAUGACAAAAUUUGAAGGUUGUUGCAUUUGCCUAUACUUAAUGGAAUGUUACCAGAUAAUUCAUUCACACUCAAGUGAAGCCCUUCAAGCUUAGGAAGAUGUUGACACAUAUCAUCAGAUAAACUACCUGAUAGGCUAUUGCUGGAGAGAUCAAUAGCCUUCAAAGAAGAAAUGUUGAAGAUGGAAGAUGGAACCUGGACAGGUAAUUGAUUGAAUUCCAAGUUCAAGGUCUCUAGAUUGGACAUGUUAACAAGUGUUUGAUGGAUUGUGUCUGUAAAGUUAUUAUUUUUCAUUUUCAGCCUUUGAACUCUGUGUAAGUUCCCAAGCCAUGAUGGAAUUUCCCCAUUAGACCAUUGUAGCUUAAUUGGGUGAUCCUCAAACGGUGCAAUUGGCCCAAUUCUUUAGGCAGAUGGCCAUAGAAAUUGUUGAGUAGAAAUGAAAGAUUUCCAAGGUGUGGAGGGAUAGUUCCUCGAAGAUUCAUGUUUGUAAGAUUCAAAGCUACAACUCUUUCAUGGAUGAUGCCACAAGAAACACCAAUCCACCUGCAAACAGAGCUAGAGGCUGUCCAAUUGUUUUUCAAGACAUUGUGAGGAUCGACUAUUCAAACUCGAGGAGUUCAAACAAAGUAGGGAACAUGGUAGGAAUAGAGCUAAAAGAAGAUGAAAGCAAGUGGUGUAGUUUAUGAUUGUAAGACGGAAUAAGGCAAGAAAAUAAAAAAGUAGGAAAAGGGAAAUUGAAAUGAUAAAAUAGUUGGGCGAUGAAGAAAAGCCCAGAGAGCCUGCUUUAAUAUGUUUCAUUAAAUUCACUCGGCUGGGGUUACAGCAUUAAUUUUCAAAAUAAAUGUCAAGUCUUCUUUUAAAACACAUACAAAGAAGCGAAUUUUCUCCAAAAUUUCUUCACAUUACUCCACAUAAUCCAUAACAAAAUUAAUAAAACAUAAUUUUUUAAUUACUAUAUUUUUUUUCACAAUAAUAAAUUGGUUAAAUAUGCUAUUAAUCCCUGUACAUUUCAGAAUUUGAGAUUUAGUCCUUGUACUUUAAAAGUUAAAAAUCUAAUCCUGCUAGUUUUUCAAUUUAAAAAUUCUAGUCCAGCCAUUAUCAUUGUUGGUAAUUCCAUUAAAAUUUGUUAACUCAAUAUGUUUAUUUUCUAUCAAUCAUAUGCAGCAUCAUAUGAAGAAAACCUAAUCAACAUAUAUACCAAGUUGACAGUUUUUAUAGAAAAUACUAAUAGUGUUAAUGGCAGGACCAAAUUUUUUAAAUAAGAAAUGUAAGAGGAGUUGUUUUUUAACCUUUUAAGUAUAAGGACUAAAUUUUAAAUAUUGUCAAAGUACAAGCACUAACAACAUAUUUUGAAUUAAUAAAUAUAAAAAAAUUAAGGUUAAAAUAUGCUAUUAGUCCUUAUACUUUGAUAAAAUUUGAGAUUUAAUCAUUAUACUAAAAAUUUUAAAAAUAAAAUUCUAUUAUUUUUAUUUAAAGAUCUUAGUCCUAUCAUUAAUAUUGUUAGUAUUUUUUUUGUCAAAAUUUGUCAACUUGACAUAUUAAUUAGGUUUGCUCAUAUGACGUGGUAUAUGAUUGAAAAAAUAAUCAUGUUAAAUUGACAAAUUUUAACAAAAAAUUACCAGCAAUGAUAAUGAUAAGACUAAAAUAUUUAAAUUGAAAAUUGUAGGGGAUUGAAUUUAACUUUUAAAAUAUUAGGAUUGAAUAUCAGAUUUUAUAGAAAUAUAAGGACUAACAAUAUAUUUUAAACAUAAAAUAAUAUAUAUAAUUCUCAGUUAAAACUACAUUGUACUUAAUUGGCUAAGGGUUAAUAUAUCAUUUGGUAUAUGAGUUUCACCCCUUUUUUAUAAUGUUGUACUUUUGGUUUUUGUUCAAUGUGUUACAUGUAUUUGGCAAAAAGUUAUAUAUUUUGGUACUUAAAGGUAACAAUGUUAACUUUUUAGUGUUUGAUCUGAGUUUUAGAGUUAUUUUAAUGAACAUUAAUUUCUAAUAUUAUUAUGUUUGAAUUUUCUAUGAUUUUGUUAACAAAAUAAAUUUUAUGUUAAUUUUUAUUAUUAUUUAUUUUAGGAUAUAUUUGAUGAAAGUUAAUUACUAAUUUUAUUAGCUAAUUAUGUCUUUUCAUCAAAUCAAAUUAUAACCCGAAUCAUAUAUCAUAUAUAAUUUAAUAUAACAAAGUAUAUACACUAAAUUUGCACACUCUAAUUUUUUAUAUUUUUAGUUUUAGUUUUUAAUUAUCCAUUAAAUUUAUUUCUUUGUAAUAAAUUAAACUAUAAAAAUAUAAUUAAAAUUUUAAAUAAAAAUAAUUCAAAACAAUCUAACUUUUAAAAAACUUCCUAAAAUUUAAAACUAUUGUUAUAGAUAUAUCAUUAAAUUAUACAGAAUUUAAAUUUUUUUCGAAUAUUGCUAAAAAGUUAACUAGGAAAGAGAAUAUAAUACGUAUAAAUAAAAUUUUUAAAAAUAAAUAUUCUUUAAUUAGUUAAUUAAAAAAUCAAUAUUGUUUAAAAAAUAUCAUAAUCAAACAUUAGAUUUUAUAAUAAUUCAUAAUUCUAAAAAAAACAUGACAAUGUUUAAAAAAUUUGUUAAAAAGGUUUUAGAAUUUAUAUAAAAUUUUAAAAAAUAAAAAAGACUAAAAACAUUUUAAAAAAUUAAUAUUAUUUAAUUAGUCAUUUAAUUUUUUAAAUAUUUUUAUGUAUUCUAAUUAUUUAUAAAUACUAUUAAAAAUUUUAAAAACAAAAUUGAAUACUAGUUAAAAACAUUAUUAAAAAUUAAAUAUAUAUAUAUCAAAUUUAAAAUUAUCUAAAAAUAUUUUAAAAAAUUAAAUGCUUUAUAAAAUAUUUAAAAUUGCUUAAAUGUUUGACAUUUGAAUUUUUAUUUGAAGUUUAAAUGUUUAAAAAUUAUAAUAAUGUUAGAAACUUGAAAAAAUUAUAUUUACUAAUUACAUACUCUUUAUAUUUUUUCCUAACAUAUCAUUAUUUGCAACUUACUCCAUUAAAGAAUUGAAGAUUUAUUUGUCGAUUGAGCUUUAGCUCGAUUGGCAUGGGCAUUGUUCCUAGUGUAGGAGGACAUGGGUUCGAGUGUGCUAAAACACAUUAUCCUCCUAUAUAUGGGUUGGGGAGGGGCUAUAGGUAAUUCUAAGCAUUAUGUCAAAAAGAGUAGAUACAAUCAAAAUAUUACAAUACAUUAGUUAUCAUAUAGCAAAACAAAAACUUAUAGUUCGCUGCACUCUACAGUAAGAGUUCCCUAGAAAUCUUAUAUCCCAGACACUUCAGUUUGUGGAUAAACUACUAAUGCUUGUAGGUUAAUACGAUGCUAGUAGUUGUGAAUACACAACGGGUUUGCAAAUAAAAAAUGACAGUAAUUUGUGGACAAACCAUUAGUGUUUGUAGUAAAAAUUAUUAGUACUUCAUCCUUUCAUAGCCAUCUCGCCCCAUCCAAUGCAGUAUGACAUGCAAACAUCAAUACAAUAGAGAAACAAUAGACAUGUUUAACAUGCAUUUUGUCACAUCCAAAAAAUAGGGCUAGAAGAAAUAGGGAUAAAAUUUAGAUUUUAAUUUUUUUAAGCAUAGGGAAAGAGAAUUUUGAAUGUCUUACAAAUUAUUUUUUUAUAAUAAAUAGACAAGAAUGAGUCGUUGGUUUAGUGGUAAAACCUUAGUUUACCCUUAGGUCCACAAUUUGAAACCCUUGUGCACCUUUCAACUAAAAUAUUUUCUUUUCUUUUCUUUUUACCCCAUAAAAGUGCAGAAUAUUCACACUAGCCCAACCUAAAAACUAUAUUUUUAAAAAAUUAGUCCUUAAUUUAAAAUAAUCCUAGUUCUAUAUGAAUUCCUAAAACCUAUUUCAAUUAGGGGAAAAGAGAUAAAUAGCCAAUUUUGUUCAAACCCUAGAAUUUUUUACUAGAGAAUUUUUCAAAAAAAAAAUACCAAAGAUCUUCAUGUUUUCUCCUCCAUUGUCGAGUCCAUUUUCAACCGAGGAUUUUAAAGGUUUUCAAAAUCAUCCUUCUCCUCCCAUUAGAUCGUCGAGCUCCUCAUCCAAACUAAGGUUUUUGUGUUUUCAAAUUAGGAGUGGGAUCUAAACUUAAAAUAUUGUGUAUAACUAAUUGAUGUAGUAGAAAGUAAGUAGUCACUAUAUGCAAACCCCUAUGGGUGAACCCUUGUAUGCGAACUACUAUAGGCAAACCCCUAUACGCGAGCCCAUGUAAGGGAACCCCCUAUAUCUAUGAACCUAGAUGCUAAACCUUAUUUGAUUUAAUAUGUGACCUAUUAGUACAUUCAUGUGAACCCUAUUUGUUAUUACAUACGAACCCCAUAUAUGUAUAUGCGAAUCUUACAUGCCGUAAUAUACAAACCCCUACAUACAUUGAUAUACAUGUGAACCCUACUAUAAGUGGAUACAAAAAAUGUAGUUUAUAUAUAUGUGAACAUUAUAUUCAUGCGAAACCUAUUAUGUAAGCUGUAGCUAAUAUAUGCGAACCCAUAUUCACACCUUUAUAUGACCACUUACUAUAUAUUAUGUGAACCCUAUAUGUUUUACGUACAAACCGUAUAUGUGUUAUCACGCGGACCCUAGAUGUUUUAUUAUGCAAACCCUUAAGGAAUGUUAUGCGAACUUUUGAUGGUUAUUAUGCAAACCUAUAUCAACAAGUUAUACGAACCUAUGUGAAUUACUAUGCAAACUCUAUGCGCAAACCCUAUGUAUGAACACUAUAUAAGUGAACCCUAUGUUUGAACCCUACGUGUGAACCCUAUGUGCAAACUCUGUAUGUGUGAACCCUAUGUGCAAACCCUAUAGGAAAGCCAUAUGUGCGAACCUUAUAUGUGAACCUGUUAUGCAUGUGUUAGCUGAACUAGCAUGAUAAAUAAUCUAAUAUCAAUAUAUUGUUACAAGAUUUAGUUUUUAUGAACAAAUUGUCUAUGUCAAAUUGAUAUGAAUGAAUGCAUGAAUACAUGCCAUUAAAUGAUAGUAUGAAAUAAUAAAUGUGUUUGACAAGUAUAACACUGAUUGUUGAUAAAUAGCAUGAUAUGCUGAGUUUAUGUGCAUGAUUACAUGAAAUUGGGUAUGAUGGACAGAGGAGUUCCAUAGGCGAGUGGCAAUUUAAGUUUACACCGAAAGUUAGUAUUGCACGAAGUAGGAAAAAAUGCCAUCGAAAUCGGGUAAAACUGAGAUGAUAGUUUAAAAAGCCAUCAAAAUCGGACAACUGGGAUGGUAAGUUAUUUUAGCAAAAGUCAUUCACCGAUGACAAGUAAACGACCAUCAUCACCAGGAAAUCCGAGAUGGUCUAUUAUUGAUAUGGGUUUUGGAUAUCGAGUGAUGCUCAAGGGCAAAUAGGAUGGAUGGGUGGGAAAUUAGAAUUUGCAUUUGCAUCAUGAACUUAACCUAUACAUGCAUUGAUUACUGAAUGUUCCAUAUAUUACGCUUAAAUUACUAGGAUACCAUAAAUUGAAUGCUUUAUUGUUUGAAUAAUUAUAUAUUGUUUGAAGAAUUAUCACUCGGUGAUCAUUGCUUGUUUGUUCAUUGAAGCUUUGUCACUAACACGACAUUUUGUCAUUUUGUUCAAUCAAUGUUUGGACAACAAAAUUCGAAAGGAUGGUUCUUAGACAUUUCAAUCUUUAAACUUGGUAUGUUCUAAAUAAUAGUCCUGUUUUAGGUUACUGUAUUAUUUAAAAACUUUUAGAGUAAUAUGCAAAACUUCCUUUGUAAAAGUUUUAUUAGUCCAUUAAUCAUUAUUCCAAUGCGACAUGCUUGCAAAAGAUCAUGACAAUGAUAAAAAUAGAAUUGAUUUGGGAGCAUGGCUCAAAAUGAAUAAAUUAUCAAUGAUAGUAAAAAUAAAAGAGGAAUGGAUUGGGAACACGUAUCUUGAAAAAGAAUGAAGUAUUCCAAGAACAAGAAAUUCAAUCUAAAAAGUAUGAAGACUAGGUGCCCAAGAAAUCGCAGCUUGAAAUUCUCUGUACAAACUUUCUGAAGACCAUUCUGAGUUUGACAUGUGUUUAGGAGAUCUAUAGUACUUUGUCGAUGCCUCAAGAUGUCGCCUACCCUUUCCUGUUGAUUCAAGUAUAGCAAGAUCACCAUAUGCCCCAAUCUGAUCAAAAUUUGAGCUGCUCUGAUCACCUCAUACCCUAUUCUAAUCUAAAAUUUGAGUAGCCCCUUUUGAGUUUUCAACUCAAAUCCUCUUUGGUCUCAAGGCGCCCUUUGCGGGUUUUCACCUUAGCCUCUCUUUUUUCUUUUUUUUCUCUUUUUUUUGACUCAAAACGCCCAUUGCAGGUUUUUACCUUGGUCUCUUUUUUUUUAAGACUAAAGGCGGCCUUUGUGGGUUUUUACCUUGGUGCUUUCUUCUUUUUUAGGUGAAGUAUUUCUUGACUAAAUUUGAGUUUACAAGAUUUGGCAAGUUUUUACCAUCCAUCUCACUUAAAAUCAAUGCUUCUCCAGAAAAGGCCUUCUUUACAGCAUAAGAUCCUUCCAAAUUUGGCAUUCAUUUCCCUCUAAAAUCCUUUUGUAGAGGAAGAAUUUUUUUCAACACCAGGUCCCUCUUGUGGAAUUCUCUGGGAUGAACCUCUUUGUCGUAAGCUCACAUCAUCUGACUAUGAUGGAUAGCUUUUAACAUUCCAUAAACCAAUGGGCCAGGUGUUGCUCCGGUAAAGGUGCUGGCCGACGUUUGAUGAGCAUAGAGGGUAAAUGGUAACUUCCUUAUGCCAAUCUUUACAAGUCUCGGUCAUCUUUCCCACAAUCCUUAUUUUAUUUUCCUUUUUUUGGCUGCCUACGGCGUCUGAUCUUUGAACAGACUACAAACUUUUGACAUUGUCCUUUUUGGCAUUCUUUAUCGGUGCCUGAUUUUUUUUUGAAAUUGGAAUUUAAUGACUUUGACCUUGUAACAUUGGUAUAUGAAGCAGCUUCUGCCCACUUAGUGAAGUAAUUGACGACCAAAAGAUAACUCGAUGACCUGCCAGAAGCUUUUGGCGAGAUCGGCCCAAUGUCAUCCAUUCCCCAUAUAGAGAAAGUAUAUGAAAAAGUCAACAUGAAGAGAUAAAGGAAGCACAUAAAUCUUGACUCCUUAAAUUUGACACUUAUGGUAUUUCUUGGUAUAACUGAUGCAAUCCCCUUACAUGGUGGACCAGCAGUACCCAAAUCUCAUGAUUUACUUAGUCAUUGCAAAAUCAUUAGCAUGUGUUCCUCAGACACCCUUAUAGACGUCUUCCAAGAUUUUCUUAGCUUCAACAGCAUCCACACGUCUCAGUAGCUUAGGCAUAUCUCGAUACGAUCAUGCGAAAACAUCUUUGAAUUCUUAGAGUAACUCAAUGACGUCUCGCAAAACAUCUUUGAAUUCUUGGUGUAACUCAAUGACGUCUCGCUUUGAUACAGGCUCUGAUCUUCACCUCUUUCUCUUCUCUUAAGCUCACAAUUCCCACUGAUUCUUUGUAAGGUAGGAUCUGUUUCCCGACUUGUUUUACCAUCCUUAACAAAUCAGGAGAUAAGCUACAGCUUCGGUCAUCUUCAAAGUCAUGAGAUCCCUCUAAACACAUAUCUCACUCAAAAAGAGACUCUGAGUCUGUAUCAGCGUCACUCAUGUCAUUGAUAUCUAGAGACCUAUUGUAGGUACCAAAAAAUAUACAAAGAAUGUAUGAAUUUAUGAAUACUUAUUUGUACAGUAUGGCUAUGAAUGAAUGAAAGGAUGAUUUGGAAGAAAAUCUAAAAGAAUAAAAAAAUCAAAAAUGAUUAUUCAUAAAUGAUGAAAGAAUAUUGGCUCAAAAAUGAUCAUAAAGAUGUAUUAAAAUAAUGACGUUUAGACAUAAGCCUAUUUCACAAAGGAGUUCUUAUUGCCUUUAGGCUGAAAACAACAAGUGUGUUCUGAAAAUAAUUCUAAAUAAGCUCUAGAUACUACAGAGAUUUCUUCUAUAGUCCGAUUAUUUAGAACACUCCCAAGUUUAUAAGGGUGGAUAUCUUAACAAGGUCCCCUUUUCAGUUGUCUUCAUAUAUGGCAUUUUUGUGAAUGUUUCCCUUUUUUUUUAAACUUCUUCACAAAGCUCCAUCUCUUUAUUGUCUAUAAUAUUUAGUUGGAUCUUGGCUAACCGCUCCUGCACUUGCAGUUGUAGUUGGCCUUGCCUUCCCCUUUGGAGUUGUUCAAGUUUUUCCAAUCUUUGGUCCAUGUCUUUUUACCGGGUACUGAAACGGUGUUUAGUCGAUAGAUUUUUUUUUAGUUCCCAGGUUAACUGAAAUAAUUUUACCUAAUUAGAGUCAUUUUGUGAAAAUCUAAUUCAUAUGAUGCAAUGUAAUGCAAAUGCAUAGAAUGAAUGCAAAAGAAAAGAGAGGCAUUGAUUCUGAAUUCAAUUACAUUAGAACAACUUUUCUAUAAAACAAAUUUCUUUACAUAAAACAAAUUACAUACGCGGCUUUGCCCUCAUAUUCUAGGCAAAGACAUCGAUCUUUUUCUUCAUAUCUGGAUGCUAGGAUCAAAGUUUGCAAAUUUUCCAAAAUCUGUACCUACUAUCUCCUUUUUGUUUGAUCCAGGCCGUGACUCAUUGCUCACUCAUCCUCAAAAUGCUCGUUAUCUUUUUUAAAAAGGUCAGGACAUUGAUGACUCUCGAAUAAUCUUUAUCAACUUGAAUUUCCAGGCGACGAAGCAAAGUCGUGUAGUUCUCCAUUAGACUAUCAUCCCUCUCUUAUCACGUUUUCUUGGACCAUAUUUGAAAAACCGUAUUGUUUUCCACUUUAUCGAGAAAUCCAUUUUCCAUGGCAAGCUCUCUAUUUAGCAACUAAACAUGAAUCAACACCUCUUUUCUAUUAUGAAAAUGCAAUGUAAUCAUAACCAAAACAAAAGAGAACAUGUUAGUACAAAGCAAAACCAAGCAAGAAAGAAACAAAUAGAGCACCUAUUCAAGUGACCACUAGGGGUUUAGAGUGGUUCUACCUAGGGUAGGCUCUUAGGGCUCACUACAUGUGGUUCGGCUCUAAAGUAAAGGGUACCUAAACCGAUAGAUUCCUCGAUCCUCACCCAUUUUUUUUAUAAAAACGCUACUAUUGCUUAUCUAUUGCGGCAUUUUUUAUAAAAACGCCACUAUUGCUUUUCAUUUGGAAUAAAACGACACUGUUUUGCUAUGCUAAAAGGGUGCCCUUUUUUAAAGUAAGAUUAUUUUUUGUGGCGUUUUUUAUAAAAAUGCCGUUACGCCGCAAAAAAUUAUUUCAUUUGGAAUAAAACGACACUGCUUUGCUAUGCUAAAAAUCUUUUAUUUUGUCUGUUAAAAAUUAUUAGUUAAGUGAUUUUAUAAAACAUUUAUUAUUAUUUUUUAUAAAUUGAAUUUUUAUAAAAAAAUCAAGUACUCUCAAAAUAAAUAUCAUAUAUUUUAAUAAGAAAAAAAAUGAUUAAAAGGCUGUAAUUAAUUAUUAAGUUAGAAUUAUCCAAUGUAAGCAAUUAAUCUCUCACAUAUCAAAUUUCUAUUAAAGAUUGAGACGUUAAUCAUUAUUUUAUAUUAUUCAUUUCUGAUCUAAUCUCCAUUUUAUUAGAGAUUUUUCUUCCUAACUAAAAUAUAACUAUUUUGCUCGAUGUUCAAUGUGGAAUGAUUUUAGUUUUUGUAUUUUAUUUUUAUUUGUUAUAAUUUGGUCCUAUAUAUCCAAAAUAGAUAGUUACCUAUCCGUAUCAAUUUGUUACAUUUUUUUAUUAAUUUUUUUAAAUCUAAUAUUUCAAUAUAUCAAAUGGUUUAGAUUAAUAAUCUUUACAAUUUAUUAUUAUCUCUUUUACAACUAUAUAAGAACUUAUUUAAUAUAUAAAUUAAAAAUACUAAUUAAUCUAAACCUUAAACCCUAACCCGACCCUAAAUCUCUAAACCCUAAAUCACUAACUCUUAACCCCAAACCCCAAACCCCUAAACAUUAACCCCUAAACCUUAUUUAAUAUAUAAAUUAAAAAACACUAAUUAAUCUAAAUCCUAAACCCUAACCUGACCCCAAAUCCCUAAUCCCUAACCCUUAAACAUUAUUUAAUACAUAUAUUAAAACACACUAAUUAAUCUAAACCUUAAAUCCUAACCUAGCAUCGAAUCUAUAAACCCUAAAUCCCUAACUCUUAACCUUUAACCCCUAACCCAUAAACCUUAAUCACAACCCUUAAAUCAGAAUCCCUAAUCCCUAAUCCCUAAUCCCUAAUUCCUAAUUCCAUAAUCUAUAAACCUUAAAAUUGUAACUCUUAAACCGGCCCUAAAUCCUAAAUUAACCAUAGAUAUACUCUAAACCAUAUAUAUUAAACCCUAAACUAUAAUGAUAAUUAAAUUAAAUAUUUUAAAAUUAAUACUAUCGUAUCUUUUACAAUUAUAUUUGAAAUUCUUUAAUAUAUAAAUUAAAAAUCAAUCAAUUAUGUACCCAAAAAAUUUUAAAAUUAUUUUAAAUAAUAGUAUUUUAAUUUCUCCAUUUUUAACAAAUAUUUUUCUAUAUUUUUUAUUUCAAAUUAUUUCUACGUGUCAUUAUUUCAAAUUUAUCCAUUUUAACAAAUAUUCAAUUAAAAAUAAAUUGAAUUUUAAUUAAUAUAAAUAAACAAAUUAAAUAGUAAAUUGACAGCUAAAAUGUUUUUGUGGCGCUUUUUCAAAAACGCCGCUAAAGAUCUGAGCAUUAGCGGUACUUUUUCAAAAAUGCCGCUAAAGAUCUGAGCAUUAGCGGCGCUUUUUCAAAAACACCACUAAAGAUCUGAGCAUUAGCGGCGCUUUUUUUAAAAACGCCGUUAAAGCCCCGAAAGGUAGAAAACGAUGUCGUUGGGCUUAGGUUUUUUGCGGCGUUUUUUCAAAAAAUGCCGCUAACGCUCAUUUUCAGCGGCGCUUUUGCAAAUGCUCAAUUUUUUAGCGGUGUUUUAAGUAAUGCGCUGCUAAUGAUCAAUUUUUAGCGGCAUUUUGACAAAAACAUGAUAAUAUAAGCCUGUUUUGGUGUAGUGUUAGAUUCUUUUACAUGAUAAUAUGCAGUGGAACCAAAAAUAUGUAAAGAAUCAUAAUCAGUAGCAGGUUUACCAGUCCACAUCUCCAUAGGAGUUUAUUCAUUUAUUGCAGCUGAUGGUAACCGGUUAAUUAGAUGGCACGCAUAUGUAACUGCCUCAGCCCAAAAUUCCUUGCCAAACCCAGCAUUAGACAACAUAUAUCGAAUUUUCUCCAGUAUAGUCUAAUUCAUACGUUCUGCCACCCCAUUCUGUUGUGGUGUAUCUCGAGCAGUGAAGUAUCGCACAAUGCCCUCAUCUUGACAUACUUGUAGAAAUGGAUCAUUUUUGUACUCAGUACCAUUAUCUGAUCGAAGUCGUUUAACCUUUCGACCAGUCUGAAUCUCCACCAUCUUCUUCCAUUUUAGAAAUGCAUCCAAAACUUCACUUUUUCUUUUCAUUAGAUACACCCAUAUUUUUCUUGAAUAAUCAUCAACAAAAGUAACAAAAUAGUGCAUACCUCCCAAAGAAGCCACUUUGGUAGGUCCCCACACGUCACUGUAAACAUAGUCCAGAAUUCCUUUCGUAUUGUGAAUUGCUGAACCAAAUUUUACCCUCGUCUGCUUGCCCAGAACACAAUGUUCACAGAAUUCCAAUUUGCAAGAAUUUACACCUUUCAACAAGCUUUGCUUCGCCAAAGUCUGCAAAGCUUUUUCACCAACAUGUCCUAAUCGCAUAUGCCAUAACCUGGUAGCCUCUGAAUUUGCAUCUUUCACAGAAACUAUUGAUGUUGAUCCAAUAACUGUACUUCAAUAUAUAUAGUACAACUUAUUUCUUUUAGUUCCUUUUAUCACCGUCAAUACCCCAGCUACUACCUUUAGUAAUCCAUCUCUCAAGGUGAUUGUGAGCCCUUUAGAUUCUAGGGACCCUAAUGAGAUGAUAUUUUUCUUCAAGCUAGGUACAUAGUGAAUAUCUGUCAGGACUUGGAUUGAGUCGUCGUGAUUCUUCAAUUUGAUUGUACCUACUCCCAUUGUCUUACAGGCACUGUCAUUGCCCAUAAAAAUAACUCCACCUUCUAGUUCUUUGAGACUAGAAAACCAGUCCUUAUUAGGACACAUAUGGUAAGUACAUCCCGAAUCCAAAAUCCACUCAUCACUAUGACAUGUCAUUGCCAUGCCAACCAAGCUAAAGUCUGACUCCUCAUCAUGCUCCGCUACACAUGCAUCAGAAAUAGCCUUGCCCUUUUGUAACUUAGGACAAUUCUUUUUCCAAUGCCCUUUCUCACGACAAAAAGCACAUUCAUUUUUGGCGAGCCUCCCUUUGGACUUACCCCUUCUACCAGGUUUGUUACUGUGUGAACGUCCUCUUACUGUUAAGACUUCUACAGUUGAAUCUCUGUGAUCUCUUUUAUCUUUCUUUCGAGUCUCAGAUCUAUACAACGCGCUACAGACUGCAUCAAAUGUGAUCGUAUCCUUCCCAUGAAGCAAUGUAGUGGUAAGAUGUGUAGUGACCUAAAAAUUUUAGCACGGGUACUAAUUGAAGUGAUUAUUGAAAAUUUGAAAACAGAAUCUCGAUUUUAUUUGAAAAAAAAGGAGUCGCCACCGAUCUUUUUUCUAGGUGUGAUCGGACACCUAAUAAAAUCUCUUUUUAGAAGAAAAAAAUUAUUUUAAAUUUUUCUAAAAAAGAGGUGACUUUAGGUCUACGUAAAAAUCCAGCGAAAAUUAAAGUUCGGGAGUCGGUUACGCGCGAGGAAGGUAUUAGCACCCUCGCGACGCCCAAAAUUGGUAUCUCAUUAAACGCAUGUUGUCUUAAUUUUCAAAAAAUACGAAUUCAAUUUAAUAUUUACUCGUGAUCCGAUUGAAACAUGAGAAUUUUUUUUAAACACGGGAAUUUUGAAGAACGAAUUUUUUAAAAAAAGCAAAAGUUUUUGAAACACGAGAAUUUUUGAAAACACGAAAAUUUUUGAAACAAGAAAAUUUUAAAAACACAAAUUUUUUUAAAAACACGACAAUUUUUGAAACACGAGAAUUUUUUUUAAACAUAAAAAUUUUAAAACACGAAAAUUUUGAAAACACGAAAAUUUUUGAAAACAUGAAAAUUUUUGAUACACGGAAAUUUUUAGAAAACACGAAAAAUUUUUGAAAACACAAAAAUUUUUGAAAACACAAGAAUUUUUGAAAUCAUGAAAAUUUUGAAACACCGGAAUUUUUUUAAAACACGAAUUUUUUGAUUUUUUGUUAAGCACGUAUCAUAUUUAACACAAACCAAUGAUAUUCACUCAACAUAGCAAUGAAAUCAACGAAUUAGUGUCAAAUCGAUUCGUUGCCUUAUUUUUUUGAAUACGCGAAUAUUUUUUUUGAAAUACGAUUUUUUUUGAAGACACGAAAAUUACGAAACACGGAAAAUUUGUUUUGAAAACAUGAAAUUUUUUUGAAUAUUUACAAUUCUUAAAAGGGCGUAUCGUGUUUAACAUAAACCGGUGAUAUUCACCCAAGAUAGCGAUGAAAUCAACGAUUUAAUUUUAAAUCGAUUCGUUGCCUUAUUUAUUAAAAUAAUUUAAAAUAAAAUAAAAUUGAAAUUGAAUUAAGUUAAAAAUAUAAAUACAAAAAUAUAAAAAUGCAUAAAGUACUAAAAAUAUUAAAACGAAAUAGCAUAAAAAUACGAGCAUUAAAUUAAAAGUGAAAUAAACAAACUUACCGAAAAAAAUCCAAAACACAAGCUUGGCCGAAUGGGUUACAGAAAUUAAACCCCCUUUUUUUUCCUUCUCCUUUUCUUUUUCUUUCUUUUUUUUUCUUUAUUUCUCUUCCUUUUUUUGGCCUGUUGGGUCGGCCUGCUGGGCCUGCUUGAAGUGCUGCUGGGCUGAUGGGGACUACGCUGCUGUAGGCCUGCUGUUGGGCUGCUAUUGGGCUUGCUAAAGAUGGCCUGCUUUCUUUUUUUUUGCUUUCUUCUUCUUUUUUUCUUUUUGGGCUGCUGUCGGGUCGGGUCACGGGUCAUACGGGUCGGCUCGGGCCGGGCUGGCCCGACUAUAAAAAUUUCUUUAAUUUUUUCUUUUUUUCCCUUUUUCUUCUUCUUCUUCCUUCUUUCUUUCUCUUUUUUUCCUUCUUUUUUCUUCUUUUUCUUCUCCGUUCGGUCUCCUUGGCCACCGUCGACGCUGCUGCUCGUGCUGCUACCGUCACCUCCGCCGGUGGUUUGCCGAUGGCCGGCCUCUCCUCCCCUCCCCUCUCUUUUUUCCUUUUCUUUUUCUUUUUUUCUUCAAAGCUCUUUUUUUUCUCUCUUUUUCUUUGAAAUUUUUUUUAUGAUCGGGGUCCCUUUCUUGGGGUUUUUUAAACCCAUUUAUAGAUGUUUUUCUCUUCUUUUUGCAGGGAUUAGGUGGCUAGGGGAGAGGGAGGCCAUGCCUUAGGCUGGUGGCCGGAAAUCACGGGGGUAGGUGUGCAAGUUGCUGCCAGAAGGACUAAACUGCAAUUACAGUAAAACUUUUAGGGCUAAAAUGUAAUUUCGAGGAAGUUUAGUGGUCAAAAUGUAAUUUUGAGAAAGUUUAGGGGUCAAAAUGUAAUUUAGAAAAGUUUAUGGGUCAAAAUGUAAUUUUAAAAAAGUUUAGGGGUUAAAAUAUAAUCUUAGGAAAAUUUAAGGGUCAAAAUGCAAUUUUAUAAAGUUUAGGGGCCAAAAUGUAAUUUUUUUAUUUUUUGUAUUUUUUUUGAAUUUUUUAAAAAAACACAAAAUCGAGCCGAACAAAAUUCAGUGAUUACAGCUGCCCCUCUUUGAUCAUCACUGUGAAACAGGGAUAGAGCAAAGACUUAAAAGCAUUGAAUUUUAUUCGACUAUCCAAAAUUUUUCUAUUUAUUUGAAAAAUAAAAAAUAAAAAUUGAAAAUACAUCGGCGUGUGGCUCAACUCACCUCUAGCAUUAUGAGUUGAUUUUUUUUUGAAAAACAGAAAUAUAAAAGAAAUACCUCGGCAUGUGUCCAAUGUUCAACUCACUUCUCGCAAUAUGAGUCGAUUUUAAAAAAAAACAGAAAUUGAAAAUACCUUAGAGUGACCCGUGGCUUAACUCACCUCUCGCAAUAUGAGUUGAUUUUUGAAAAACAGAAAUAUAAAAGAAAUACCUCGGCAUGUGAUCGAGGCUCAACUCACUUCUCGCAAUAUGAGUUGAUUUUUAAAAAACAGAAAUUUAAAAGAAAUACCUCGGCAUGACCCGAAGCUCAACUCACCUCUCGCAUUAUGAGUUGAUUUUAAAAAGACAGAAAUUUAAAAGAAAUACCUCGGCAUGUGUCCGAGGCUCAACUCACCUCUCGCAAUAUGAGUUGAUUUUUGGAAAACAGAAAUAUAAAAGAAAUACCUCGGCAUGUGACCGAGGCUCAACUCACUUCUCGCAAUAUGAGUUGAUUUUUGAAAACAAAAAUUUAAAAGAAAUACUUCGGCAUGACCCGAGGCUCAACUCACCUCUCGCAUUAUGAAUCGAUUUUUGAAAAAUAGAAAUUGAAAAUACCUCGGCAUAUGACUCGAGGCUCAGCUCACCUCUCGUAAUAUGAGUUGAUUUUUGAAAAAUAGAAACUUAAAAUACCUCAGCGUGCGACCUGAGGCUCAACUCACCUCUCGCAAUAUGAGUUGAUUUUUGAAAAAUAGAAAUUUUAAAAUACCUCAACGUGCGACCCGAGGCUCAACUCACCUCUUGCAAUAUGAGUUGAUUUUUAAAAAACAGAAACUUAAAAUACCUCGGCAUGCGACCCGAGGCUCAACUCACCUCUCGCAAUAUGAGUUGAUUUUUGAAAAACAGAAAUUUUAAAAUACCUCAGCGUACGACCCGAGGCUCAACUCACCUCUUGCAAUAUGAGUUGAUUUUUAAAAACAGCAAAUAAAAAUUUUGAAAAAUAAUUCUCGAAAGAAACAGGGUUUAAAAAACAUCAGGUAAAACUGAAAGCCUCUUUUUUUUUUACUAAUUCUGUACAGCUUUCUCCCAAACUUCCUGGCUCUACUGGGAUACCUGUAUAUGUCAUGUAUGGUGUUAUUAUGAUAUGGACAUGUUUGUCCUAAAUGUUUUUGUGUCUACAUGAUCAUGCCAUGCACCCUGGGCUGUUUGUCACAUGCCCCACUUUUGAUUUUCGUGAGGGUCCGCAUUCAUCUCCUCAAUUCUUGACUUUUCUCUCCAGUUUUGUACUCAUCCUAAAGUUCUGUGAGUAAUCCACAUCUUCGUAUACCACCUUCCUGCCCUCUUGUUGAACUUUGUUCUUGCUUUAGGGUCCUUGUAUUUAUCAAAUUCUAAUCCAGGUAAGGCUCAAUAUUCCUUUUGUUUAGAGUAUAUCAUCUUACUAUUUAUCAUUUAAAUGAAUCAAACACGAGAUGCAUGAAAAAUGGCAAAGUAGGCAUGAAAGAAAGACCUCACAUUCAAUUUUUUCAGAAGAAACAAAUCAAAGAAAAAUGACAUGGAAGUUCCAAUAAAGAAAGCAACAUAAAGAAAGGAAAGUGAAUUCAAUGGCCAGAAAUGCUCUAGAUAUCCAAUGCAUGAACUUCUCUGCAUUUCUUCAUCCUGGAUCCUUUCGAGCACGGCUUCUUGUAUAGAAGAUUUCGAACUUCUGAGAAUGCUUCAAAUAUUGGGACUUCGUCAUUCAACUCCCCAUUCAAGUCAUUUUGCUCUUUUAAGCCUGAGUCCACCUUAUUAGGACGCCCUUUUGGGUUUUCAUCCUAAUCCUUUUUGUUUAACAAGACGCCCUUUUUGGGUUUUCAUCUUGAUUUUUCUUUUUAUUUUCUUUUUCAUUUUUUAGGUUUUUUUAGGCGUAAUAUUUCUUCACAGCAUCUGAGUUCACUGGAUUAGGUAAUUCUUUUCCGUCUAUUUUAGUGAGAAUUAGAGCCCCUCCUGAGAAUGCCUUUUUUACAACGUAUGGCCCUUCCCAAUUUGGUGACCAUUUUCCUCGAAAGUCCUUUUGUAUCGGGAGGAUCUUUCUUAAAACGAGCUCCCCUUCACGAAAUUCUCUUGGUCGCACCUUUUUAUCAUGGGCUGUGAUCAUUCUCUUCUGGUAUAUCUGUCCAUGACAAAUUGCCUUCAAGCGUUUCCCUUCAAUAAGGUUUAGCUGAUCAUAUCGAGCUCGAACCCACUCUGAUUCUUCUAACUUUGUCUCCAUCAAGACGCGCAGGGAUGGGAUCUCUACUUCGAUAGGCAGAACGGCCUCUAUCCCAUAGACCAGUGAAAAAGGAGUUGCCCUAGUAGAAGUCCGUACAGAGGUGCGAUAUGCAUACAAAGCGAAUGGUAGCUUCUCGUGCCAGUCUUUAUAUGUCUCAGUCAUUUUUUUGAGAAUCCUCUUAAUGUUCUUAUUAGCCGCUUCUACAGCUCCGCUCAUCUUUGGGCGAUAGGGCGAAGAAUUAUGAUGCUUUAUCUGAAAUUGCUCACAUACUUCUUUCAUCAUCUUAUUGUUCAAAUUUAAAGCAUUAUCUGAAAUGAUUCUUUCAGGCAAACCAUAUCGACAUAUGAUCUCCUUUUUUAAGAACCUACAGACUGCAGCCUUUGUCACAUUAGCAAACAAAGUGGCUUCUACCCAUUUUGUGAAGUAGUCUAUAACCACAAAGAUGAAUCAAUGUCUAUUGGAGGCUUUCGGGGAAAUUGGCCCUAUAACAUCCAUGCCCCACAUAGAAAAAGGCCACGGAGAAGUCAUGACAUGAAGGGGCGAUGGAGCUGCAUGAAUUUUAUCGCCAUAAAUUUGACAUUUGGGGCACUUUCUUGCGUAGCCAAUGCAAUUGCUUUCCAUCGUCAGCCAAUAAUAACCAAGUCUCAUAAUCUGCCUGGCCAUAGUGAAACCACUGGCAUGCGUUUCACAAAUUCCUUCAUGAACCUCCUCAAGUAUCUUUCUGGCUUCAACAACGUCCACGCAUCUCAAGAGCACUUGAUCUUUUCCUCUUUUAUAUAGAAUAUCCCCAUCAAGAACAAAUCCAAUCGCUAUUCUCCUGAUUGUUCUUUUGUCAUUCUCGUUCGCUUGCUCGGGGUACCUUUGAUUCUUGAUAUACUACAAGAUAUCAUGGAACCAUGGCUGUCCAUCUGACUCCUCCUCAAUGCUAAAACAAUGCGCGGGGGUCUCAUAUAUGCUUAUUUGGAUGGACAUUAUCUCAGUUUCUCUGUUUGCUUUAAACAUCGAAGCCAAUGUGGCUAGAGCAUCAGCCAAUUGAUUCUCUUCUCGUGGAAAGUAGUUAAAAGUCACUUCUUUGAAUUCUUUGACCAAUUUAGCCACGAGAUCGUGAUACUUAACUAAUUUUGGGUCUCUUACUUCCCAAUCUCCACAAAUUUGAUAAAUGACUAAUGCUGAGUCCCCUUGUACCUCUAAAAUUUUGAUUUUCCUCCUGAUAGCUGCACGAAGUCCCAUGAUGCAAGCUUCAUACUCCGCUAUAUUAUUGGUACAGAAGAAAUUCAAUCUGGCAAUGAGUGGGUAAUGGUUCCCUUCAGGUGACACUAAGACUGCACUGAUCCAAUGCCCCAAUGCAUUUGAUGCACCAUUAAAGCUCAUUUUCUAUGAUUUCUCUUUUGAUGGCUCGCCCUGUUUUUCUGAAAUACACAUCAAAUCUUCAUCUGGGAAAUCAAAUCUCAAAGGCUCAUAUUCCUCCGUUGUUCGACUUGCCAAGAAGUCAGCUAUUGCGCUUCCUUUUAUCGACUUUUGGCUCACAUAUACAAUGUCAUACUCAGUCAAUAGGAUCUGCCAUCGUGUCAUUCUCCCUGAGAGUGCAGGUGACUCCAUCAUGUACUUUAUUGGGUCCAAUUUCGAAAUUAACCAUGUCGUAUGAUACAACAUGUAUUGUCUGAGCCUUCAAACCGUCCAAAUCAAUGCACAACAAAAAUUUUCAAUCGAAGGGUACUUUGCUUCAUACUCUAUGAACUUAUUGCUAAGCUAGUAAAUUGUAUUUUCUCUUUUCCCCGAUUCAUCAUGUUGUCCAGUACGUAACCCAUUGAGUUUUCGAACACGGUCAGGUACAAUAUUAAAGGUUUUUCAGGAGUCGGCGGUACUAGUACUGGAGGAUUAGACAUAUACUAUUUUAUCUUGUCGAAAGCCACUUGGCACUCUUCAUUCCACUCUCCUGGAUUAUGUUUUCGAAUGAGUCAAAAAAUUGGAUCACACUGGUUGGUAAGUUGAGAAAUGAAUCGAGCAAUAUAGUUCAACCUUCCCAAAAAUCCCCUGACUUCUUUUUAUGUACGCGGAGGUGGCAGUUCUUAUAUGGCCUUUAUCUUGUCUGGAUCAACCUCAAUACCUCUCUCACUGACAAUGAAACCUAGCAAUUUUCCCGAGGUAGCCCCAAAUGUACACUUGGCUGGGUUAAGUUUCAACUGAAACUUUCUUAAUCUUUCAAACAGCUUUCUGAGGUUCACAACAUGCUCUUCUUCUCCCCGGGACUUGGCAAUCAUAUCAUCGACAUAAACUUCUAUUUCUUUGUGCAUCAUGUCAUGGAACAGCAUCACCAUGGCUCUCUGAUAUGUUGCCCCAGCAUUCUUCAAUCCGAAUGGCAUCACUUUGUAGCAGAAUGUUCCCCACAUUGUCAUGAAUGUGGUUUUCUCCAUAUCUUCGGAAGCCAUCUUUAUCUGAUUAUAACCUGAGAAACCAUCCAUGAAAGAAAAUAAAGAAUGUUUAGCCGUGUUAUCCACCAGUGUAUCGAUGUGUGGCAAGGGAAAAUUAUCCUUAGGGCUUGCUCUAUUUAGAUCAUGAUAAUCCACGCAUAUUUGUACCUUGCCUUCUUUCUUCGGUAUUGGGACUAUGUUAGCUACCCAUUUCAGAUAUUUAGAGAACUGUAAAAAGCCAUCAUCAUAUUGUUUCUUAACCUUUUCUUUUUUCUUAACAGCAUUUCAGGUCUCAUCCUUCUUAAUUUCUGCUGAACGGGCUUGCAUUCUGGUUUUAAUGGGAGCCUGUGGACCACCACAUCCUCAUUCAACCCUGGCAUAUCCUUAUAUGACCAGGCAAAUACAUCUUUGUACUCACAGAGUAAGGCGAUCAAAUUCUGUUUGGUGUUCUCUGAAAUGGAAGUCCCCAUCUUCACCUCUUUUUUUUCUUCACUUCCUAAGUUCACCGUCUCAACAGAUUCUUGAUGGGGUAGAAUCUAUUUCUCUUCUUGUUCUACCAUUCUCAAUAAGUAAGAAGACGAGACAAAAUCUUCAGCAUCUUCUUCGGCUUCAAAUUCUCCUAAACAAACAGCCUUCUCGAAAUCGAUUUCAGGACUUAUAACGAGAUUGUUCAUACCAUGGAUAUCUGAGCACCUGAAAGGUGAAUGAGAAAUAAAACUAUAGAGGAGCAUCAAAGUAUUAGAAUCAACACACACAAUGUUAUGGAGUGAUAUGAUAUAUGUGUAGGAAAAAGCUAUGAGAAGCGGGAAUAAUUGCAACACUAAUUGAAAUGAAAAGACCAUGACAAAAUGCAUUUUCAUUAAUGUUCAUUGAAAUGAUAAAGAGCAAACAUAAGCUCUUACAAAAGGAAUCCCAUUAUUUAGGAACACACAAAAUAAUGGAGAAUUAACAUUGGGCAUUACUCUGGAGAUGACUGAGAAACUACAAGGAGGUCCAUAGCAGUCCAAUUGUUCAAAACAUAUCCUGGAGGACAGGGGUGUAUCAUUGCAACAUCCUCAAUUGUAUUACUCUCGUUGAGCUCAGCAUCCAUAACUCUAGCUCUUAGAUGCGUUUUAUAAGAAUGGCGUGAUUCCAGACUCGUAGUGUAACAACUGUGAAUUAGACAGUUUUAGCCUUAGUGAAUGGUUAGGGUGAUAUGUACAUGCAAUGAAUGAAUGAAUGAAUGAAUGAAUGAAUGACCAAUAGAUGUUAGUCAUGCAUAAAUGUGAAAAAAAUAGUGUUUAUUUCAAGAUAGCCUCAUAUUUUGGCGUUUCAUUAAUCAAAAGAGCCCAUUACAAAACAUUUUUCCAUCUUGGACUUAACAGUUACACAAAUUCCCUGGCCACAUCGCCUUGUUUCUUCACUCGUCCUAGGAACUUCGACAUUCUUGAUCUUUAGCUUAGAAAGAAUUGCCAACUGAGAGCAUCGGCCUCAUCUGAUAAUUGUACAAUUUGCACAGCUGCCCUGCGAAUUUCAUUGACUAAACUUCAACCCAUAUAUCAAUCAUCCCUGUCAACUUCAUUAGCUUUUUCUUGAAGGUUAUCAGUUUAGACUCCUUCACAUAUAUCUUGUUGAGUUGCACAUUCUUAAUGCGAAGCAGGGCAGCAUACUCUUCUAUGGUCGGAGCCAUGUCUUCUUGAUUGAAAGUAAAACACUGAUAAGUUGGGUCCCAGAAUCGAACCAUAGCUUGAAUCAACUGCUCAUCUACAUUGAUUGCGAUCAAGUGAGCUAUAUCCACGUACUUUUCGGUGAAGAUGCCUCUAGUAUCUGAAUCCUAUUGUCCCUAGAUCCUAGUCAAGUCUUCGAGGUUAUUCUGACGAGCAUUCAAAGUCACGCGCUCGAGAAGAUCAAAAAUGUAACCUUCCUUUAAACUGUCCCUUUUUACUUUUUGGGUUCUCAAAGACCAGUCUAGAUCUAUAGCAUUUUUCUCGGUUACUUGUGUAAUUGACUCCUCCAUCAGAAACCCAUUUUGGCAACCAAUCUUUAACCAACACCUUCCUAAUGAGAUGUCUACGAUGCAUGAUGAAAAAUAAAAUGAAGAACAAAUAACCUUGGUUAGAGAUCACAACAAAUAUAAACAGAAGAAAGAAAAAAAAAUAAAGACUGGAAAAUUUAACGAAUUAAGCUAUUCAAUCAUGCAAUUUGGAGGAACAGACCUGCAUUUUUUUUGCCCCAACAUGCUUUACAAAAACCUACCCCAUAUACCAUCAGACAAUCUAUCAGACCCAAUUUAUUAAAUAGGCUCAAUUCAUUUGCAAACAAGUGUAAAUGUAAAAGAAAUAAAAGGUAAGAGACGUUUCUCCCGUGUACUUAUUUUGGUAACUAUCAAACGGACAGAGGUUCGGCAUGGAUUUAAUUAGGUGGCUCGUACGGUUUACUAUAUGUGGUUUUGGUUCUAGAAAGGAACUCGAAUUGUCCAUACUAUCACCUACUAAGGUUAGUAUGGAGCCUCGGUCAUCACCCAUCACAGGCUUACGAGCUCAAUUAGAGGGAUUACAUUUACUUAUGCCUAUGCGGAGGGACGAGUUAACUCAUGAAAGCAUAAGUCAUAUGUAACCCAGAAGUAUUUCACUAGCCUAUGCGGAGGGACGAGUUAACUCACAAAGGCGUAGCGUUUACUCCCACUUAAACGGACGGAGCCCGGGUAAAGAGCUCAUGUUAUAUAAGAAUGCAAGUGCACGGUGUGUGGGGAGAAACUCACAAACCUUUUUAUUUUUUAUUUUUACUAAAACAAAAACUUUAAAACUAUAAAACUUAAAGCUGAGAAAAAAAACAGAAAAAUAAAACGAGAUAGAAAAAUAUUAAUUUGAAAACCGGAUGCAGAUGCAUGACUUUCUUUUUUAAGAAUAAAAUUCAAAGAUCACAAUUAAAAAUUAAUUUGAACAAGAAAUUUUGAAAAUUUUGACAACACGCAUUUAACAUCAGACUCGACUCUCAAAAAAGUCCCCAGCGGAGUCGCCAGCUGUAGCGACCUAAAAAUUUUAGCACGGGCACUAAUUGAAGUGAUUAUUGAAAAUUUGAAAACAGAAUCUCGAUUUUAUUUGAAAAAAAAGGAGUCGCCACCGAUCUUUUUUCUAGGUGUGAUCGGACACCUAAUAAAAUCUCUUUUUAGAAGAAAAACAUUAUUUUUAAAUUUUUCUAAAAAAGAGGUGACUUUAGGUCUACGUAAAAAUCUAGAGAAAAUUAAAGUUUGGGAGUCGGUUACGCGCGAGGAAGGUAUUAGCACCCUCGAGACGCCCAAAAUUGGAAUCUCAUUAAACGCAUGUUGUCUUAAUUUUCAAAAAAUACGAAUUCAAUUUAAUAUUUACUCGUGAUCCGAUUGAAACAUGAGAAUUUUUGAAAACAUGAAAUUUUUUGAUUCACGGAAAUUUUUAGAAAACACGAAAAAUUUUUGAAAACACGAGAAUUUUUGAAAUCAUGAAAAUUUUAAAACACCGGGAAUUAUUUUAAAACACGAAUUUUUUGAUUUUUUAUUAAGCACGUAUCAUAUUUAACACAAACCAAUGAUAUUCACUCAACAUAGCAAUGAAAUCAACAAAUUAGUGUCAAAUCGAUUCGUUGCCUUUUUUUUGAAAGCGCGAAUAUUUUUUUUGAAAUACGAUUUUUUUUGAAGACAUGAAAAUUUUGAAACACGGAAAAUAUUUUUUGAAAACACGAAAUUUUUUUGAAUAUUUACAAUUUUUAAAAGGGCGUAUCGUGUUUAACAUAAACCAGUGAUAUUCACCCAAGAUAGCGAUGAAAUCAACGAUUUAAUUUUAAAUCGAUUCGUUGCCUUAUUUAUUAAAAUAAUUUAAAAUAAAAUAAAAUUGAAAUUGUAUUAAGUUAAAAAUAUAAAUACAAAAAUAUAAAAAUGCAUAAAGUACUAAAAAUAUUAAAACGAAAUAGCAUAAAAAUACGAGCAUUAAAUUAAAAGUGAAAUAAACGAAAUUACCGAAAAAAAUCCAAAACACGAGCUUGGCCGAACGGGUUACACAAAUUAAACCCCUUUUUUCUUCUCUUUUUCUUUUUCUUUCUUUUUUCUUUUCUUUAUUUCUCUUCCUUUUUUUGGCCUAUUGGGCCGGCCUGCUGGCCUGCUUGAAGUGCUGCUGGGCUGAUGGGGGCUGUGCUACUGUAGGCCUGCUGUUGGGCUGCUAUUGGGCUUGCUAAAGAUGGCCUGCUUUCUUUUUUUUGCUUUCUUCUUUUUUUUUUCUUUUUGGGCUGCUAUUUGGGCUGUUGGGCUGCUACUGUGGCCUGCUAAGCUGCCGGUGCUGUCGAGUCGGGUCACGGGUCAUACGGGUCGGGUUGGGCCGGUCUAUAAAAAAUUUCUUUAAUUUUUUCUUUUUUUCCCUUUUUUCUUCUUCUUCCUUCUUUCUUUCUCUUUUUUUCCUUCUUUUUUCUUCUUCUUCUUCUCCGUUCGGUCUCCUUGGCCACCGUCUACGUUGCUGCUCGUGCUUCUACCGUCACCUCCGCCGGUGGUUCGCCGAUGGCCGGCCUCUCCUCCCCUCCCCUCCCCUCUCUUUUUCCUUUUCUUUUUCUUUUUUUCUUCAAAGCUCUUUUUUUUCUCUCUUUUUCUUUGAAAUUUUUUUUUUAUGAUCGGGAUCCCUUUCUUGGGGUUUUUUAGACCCAGUUAUAGAUGUUUUUCUCUUCUUUUUGUAGGGAUUAGGUGGCUAGGGGAGAGGGAGGCCAUGCCUUAGGCAGGUGGCCGGAAAUCACGGGGGUAGGUGUGCAAGUUGCUGCUAGAAGGACUAAAUUGCAAUUGCAGUAAAACUUUUGGGGCCAAAACAUAAUUUUGAGGAAGUUUAGUGGUCAAAAUGUAAUUUUGAGAAAGUUUAGGGGUAAAAUGUAAUUUAAAAAAGUUUAUGGGUCAAAAUGUAAUUUCAAAAAAGUUUAGGGGUUAAAAUAUAAUUUUAGGAAAAUUUAAGGGUCAAAAUGCAAUUUUAUAAAGUUUAGGGCCAAAAUGUAAUUUUUUAUUUUUUGUAUUUUUUUGAAAUUUUUUUAAAAAAACACGAAAUCGAGCCAGACAAAACUCAGUGAUUACAAGAUGAUCAUAUUCAUCAGGAAGAGAAUUCAACAACAAUAAUGCCUUGUCUUCAUAUUCAAAUUUCUCAUCCAAAUUUAGCAAGUCUGCUAAAAUUUUAUUGAAUGAGUUAGCAUGGUCAUUCAUCGACAUAUCAGGUGCAUACGUGAAUCGAUAAAGUUUCUUUUUCAUAUAAAACCUAUUUUCAUGACUUUUCGUUAGAAACUUUUCAUCCAGUGUAUCCCACAACUUCUUCGCUGAUGUCUCCCUCAUGACAGAGUACUUCUGCUCUUUGGCCAAACAUAGGCGGAUUGUACCACGCAUCUGUCUAUUGAUCUUGGCCCACUCCUUGUCAUCCAUCUUGUCAGGUUUUUCUUCAAGGGCUAUAUCCAACUCUUGUUGACAUAAGACAUCCAGGAUCUGACAUUGCCACAUACCAAAAUUAUUGGUACCAUCAAAUUUCUCUACUUUAAAUUUUGCAUUAGUCAUGGUAGUCUUUGUUGAUGACGAUGCCUCUGCCAUUUUUCUCCUCAAUCCCAACUACUAUAUACGUGAACAGUACCGUUUACGUAAAUAGUGCCGUGGAUGAACAAUACCGUAUACGUAAAUAGUAUCAUAAACGGUCGUAUUCCCCAAGUACGAAUCUAGCUCUGAUACCAAUUGUUGCGCGGAAGCAUGUAAAAGAUUAAAAUUAUUGUACUAAAAAAUCACACUAAGUUCAAUUCCCAUGAAAGAGAGGUGGAUCACGAGGAUCACUUAAGUACCAGGUCUUUCCUAGCCUGAAUAUCCCUCUAUCGUAAUUUAAUAGCACAAUAAAUCACUACAAUCACACUCGCAAAAUAUGCAAAAUAAACAAUAAAUAACACUAGAAUUUUAACGAGGUUCAACAAAUUUUGCCUACGCCCUCGGGCACUACCAAAUAUAUUUCACUCCAAAAUACAAGUGAAAAUUUACAAAUAAGGAGAGGGAACAAUGCCUUAAGUAGAGAAUGGCAUAUAUCGGAUUUGGAAAAUGAGAAAUAGUUAGGCCUAUUUAUAGUUGAAGUUCAAGGAUCAACUUGCAAAGUCCCUAUACAAUUAAGGACCAAAAUUGCAAUUAUCCCAUGCCAAAUUUCAACCCAAUUUUCGAUGCCUUAAAUGCUUAGAUUUUCUGUGCCAAUUUUCUGACACCAAUAUCUUUGAAAAGUCAAAGAUGGUUGCCAAUAGUUUUCUUACAGUUUUCCUUGCGAUAAUCAUUCGAAAACUUGCGAUAACACCCAAGUUAGUCGUACAUUUUGUAUCUUUUGGUUGUUUUGUGUUUUUCUUGUUCACAUUGUAAAAGUCAACAAUCCCGUGAGUAGAAGUCACACGGAAAAGUGCAACCGCUUCUUUAGUUACAAUAACCAUAAAUAUAAAUCAAUGGGAAAAUUUAAUUAUGCUUCUUUAGUAUCUUAUAGACGUAAUAAUGGGCGGGCUAGGUUUGGGUCAGGUUAAGUAAAAAUUUAAGCCCGUUUGUCAUUAGGCCUGGCAUGAAAAUGAGCCUAAAAAUUUAUCCAAAUUUAAUCCGGAUAAAAAUGUUAAAAUUUGGACCCAAUUCGGCCCACCCAUAUUAAUUUUUAUACUAUUUUAUUUUUACAUAAUUUUUAAAUAUAUAUAAUAUAUCAAAAAUAUUAAAAACAUAAAAAUAAAUAUUUUUGAACAAAUUGAAAAUAAAUUUUAAACAAUAUGUAUACUUAAAUAAUACUAAGAUAGAUGCAACUUAACAAGAAAAAAAAUCUUUAAAAUAAUAACAAACAAGUGUUAUAUAAUAUCCAAACAAUGACAACAAAAUAGUAGUAAUAUGAUAGUGAAAUAGUAGCAAAAUAGGGAGAAAACAAUAAGAAAAAAUCAUUAAAAUAACAAAAAAGCAUAUUUUUAUUGGCAUUUAGUGAAUUCGAGCCGGGCUCAGGCAAAAAUGUCUUACCCAAAGCCUAACCCAUUUUUAAAAUGAACAUUAUUUUUUUAUCCAAGCCCAUUUUUCGGACCUAUAUUUUUGUCCAAACCCUUCUAUUUUUCAAUCAGACCUCUGGGCUAGGUGACCCAACCCAUGAGCAGAUCUAAUAUCUUAGGGCUUUUUUUGUCAGUUUCAAAAUAGCCACCGAACCGGUUUGUUUUCUUUUAUCUAUUUCUGUUAAAUAUUUAACAGAAAGGUGAGAUGACAGUUCAAAUAUUAAUAUAAAACAAAUUUAGUAUACAAUUUUUACAUAUUAUGUCAAUUUAGUCAUAAAUUAAAAUAAUUAACUCUUAACAUUUACAUAUUAUCUUAAUUUGGUCCUAAUUCUAAAAAGUUAAAAAAAUUAUAAAUAUACAUAAAUAUUUAAAAUAUAUAAUAAAUUUAAAAAUAUAUAAAUAAUAAAUUUAAGAUCAAGAAAAAAAAAACUAGGAGAAAAAGUAAGAACAAAGUCGAAUUCCAAGUUUUUAUAGAUUUCUUCACUAAGUUCUCUUUUGUAGAUUUUAAAAUAAAGAGAAAAUCUUAUAAAAGUAUGAUAUUUGACUUUAUUCAUUCUUUCUCUCCAAGUUUUCUUUUUUAGAUCUUGAUUUUAUCUGGUAUAUAUUUUUAAAUUUAUUAUAAUUUUUGAAAAUAGAGUUAUAAUCAAAUUGAAAUAAUUUAUAAUGUCGAGGGUUAUUUUUAAAAAUUGUAAUCAAAUUGGCAUAAAAUCUAAAAGUUUUAAGGUUAAAUUUAUUAUUAUAUCCCCUUUUAAAUUUUCAUCUCACACUAAAAAAACUUGAUUAGUUGGGUCACCUCAGUGUUUCUGGGUGUGCUAGAAUUAGAUCCCUCAAAUUCUUCCAAGGAAUACAUUUGCUAUCCCCUUUCUGCUUGAUCCGUGUUGCAACCCAUUGCUCGCUCAUCCCAGUAAUAUUUAUCAACUUUUUCAAAAAGUUUGGGACAUUGACAGCUCUCGAGUAAACUCUAUCUGCUUGAAUCUUUGAGCAACGAAGUAAAGCCAUGUACUCCUCCACUGUAGGUACCAGAUCACCUUCCCCAAAAGUGAAACAACUGUAAGCAGGAUUCCAGAACUGGGCGAGGGCACGAAACAAGUGUUUGCCCACCUUUAUGUCAAGCAGAUAAGGCAUAUCUCCAUAGCUAGAAUAAAAAGGCUGCUUGACCUCAUCAUUCCACUGAUCCCAGAUUUCCUUUAAUUCCUGCAGACUAUUCCGGGUUACACUAAUACGAGUGAAGUCCCACAACUCUGAUACAUAUCCUUUGGCCAAACUAUCACCUCUUUCCCGCUGUAUUGCCUCAGACCAGGUUUGGACAACAGAAUUAUCCUCCACUUUAUCAAGAAAUCCAUUUUCCAUGAUAAGCUCUCUAUCUAGUAACUGAAUAUGAACCGACGCCUUUUAGGAUGAAAUGCUAUGCAGCCAAAAUGCCAUGCAAUCAAAGCAACACACACAAAAGUUAGUAUCAUGUAAUAAAAAAUAGAAUUCAACGCAAACAAAAAAUAAUAAAGCACCUAUUCAGGAAUCUACUAGGGUUUGGUAUAGUUCUACCUAGGGCAAGUUCCUAAGGUUCACUAUAUGAGGUUUUAGCUUCUAGAGCGAAGGUACCCGAACCAGCAGAUUCCUCGAUCCUCACCCAUUAUAGGCUCAUAUGGACCAAGUUCAGUUCAGGGGAAUACAUUUCCCUAUGGCUGCACAGAUUUGAAAAUCUCACGAAGACAUAGGUACGGAUGUAUUCUGAAAGCGGUCCACUAUCCUGCACAGAGGUGAAAACCUCACGAAGGACUAGCUUUUCACUCCCACUUAAAGGGGUAAAAUCACUAAAUGUGAGAUGCAAAUAUUUAAACCAAUCGAUGAAGCAUACCAUGAAGAAAACAAAUAAAUGCAAAGGGGAAAUCAUAAAUUUUAAAGCAGAAUUUGACUUUUCGACCAUAAGACAAAAAAAUUAAUUAAUUUAUGGCUCGACUCUCUUAAAAAGAAGAUCCCUAGUGGAGUUGCCAAGCUGUCGAGACCGCUUUUUGAAAACAAAAAAUUUUAGCUUCGACUUAAAAAUGAAAAUUAGAGUCACCACCAAUCUUUUAUUGAGGUGUGAUUGGAUCACCUAAAAAUGAUUUUGGUCUACGAGUUUUAAAAAAACGGGUUCGGGAGUCAGUUACGUACGAGGAAGGAUUAGCACCCUCGUAACGCCCAGAGUUGGUACCAAAUUAAUUAUUUAAUAUCUUAAGGUUGAAUGGAUAAUUUGCCUUUGUUUUAAAAGAAUCUCGUCUCGAGAUAACAAAAUGUCGCAUCUAGUGAGUUAGGACACAACCCUUUGAAUUCUCGAGAGUAAAUUUAAAUCUUGAAACGUUUACAAUUUUAUUGAAAAAGGAUACUCAGCUAUUUAAAUUCAACGAAAAAAACUGAAGCCCAGUAAGUUAGGGCACAAUCUCCUCGAGAAUUUCGAACGCUGAAUAUUUUGAAAACUCACGUAUAAAACAAUUUCAGUAAUUUAAACAAAUCAGUAAUAUAUCUAAAGAAUAAAAGUAUUUUAAUAUAAAUUGCACAUGUAUAUAUAAAACAAUAUUAUAUAAAAAUACUUUCAUAUAAAUCUUUAAACAUAAAAAAUAUAUAAAAUGAAUUUUUAAAGAAACAUAUACCACAAAAUAAAAAGCAUCAAAAUAUAUGCAUUAUACUGGAUUUUAAAAAGAAAUAAAAUAAUACAUUAUAAGAUAAAAUAAUAAUAUAUGACAGUGAUAUAAAUAGAAUAAAAUUAUGCAUGCAAAAAAAGGUUAGAUAAAUUGUUAUAAGAAAUAUAAUAAUAAUAGUAAUAAUAAUAUUAUUAAUAAUAGUAAUAGUAAUAAUGAAGUCCAAGAAUAAAAAUAAAAUAGAACAAAAUAAAAAAAAUCACAAAGAAAUGUAAAAAAAAGAGUAAAUAAAAAAUAAACAAAACACAAAGCAAAAUUAAAAACACGACAGAGACAAAAAAAACUAGAUUGUCCAUGAAAUAAAAGAUAUUUAAAAUGAGAUAGGGGCUGAAAUUAUAAAUAAAAAAAUAAGUGCAAAAGGACUAAAUUGAAGUUUAAUAAAAAAUCGGGGUAAAAAUUGUAAGUAAAAAUGAAGGAAAGGGCCCAAUUGAAAGGCGCAAAUAAUUUAUAAGGACCCAUCGGGGAAAUAUCCCCCAUCCUUUGAAACGCCAUUUGCUAGGGUCAAAUUGAAACUGAAGUAAAAUUAUAAGUAUAAAUUUAAAAUAAAAAAUAAAAAAAAGACUGAAUUGAAACAACUGAAAAAUACAGAAGGGUCUAACGCGCAAAUAGACCAUCAAAGCAAAACACGCGGAUCCUUCCCCUAGGUCAGGUCACCACGCGGGUCAAGGGAGUGAAACGACGUCGUUCUGGGCAUCAGAAGCCAAGCCCCAAAACGACGCCGUUUUAGGGUGUCUAUAUAAGUAAAAAAAAACCCUAAAAAUCAUUUGAAGCCUCCUUUUAGAAAAAAACUCUCUUUUCUCUCAACUCUCUCUCAGCCUUUCAAACUUUUCUAGAAUCUGGCUAUGGCUCCGGCGCCGGACCACUGUGGCGGCCGCCGGUCGCCGGCGACGGCGCCGUUGUCCACGGUGGCCGGAAAAUUUUAAAAAUAUUUUUUUUUGGUUUUUCCAACUCUCGGACUCCAAAAACACUGAUUUUCAUCGGAAUCGGCACCUCCUCCUCACAAAGGUACGAUUUUUCAUUUUUUAUUUACAUUUUUGUUUUUAAAAAAAUAAAUAAAUAAAUAAAAAAUAAAAAGGCACUACUACCUUUGAAAACGGUUUGCACUUGAAUUGAUUUUUCUCUAUUUUCUUGUCAUUCAUUCGUGUGUGUGUAAAAUAUACAUAGAUUCGGGUCUUUAUAUAGCCCCAAAAUUUCCUAUUUUCUCUAUUUUUUACACUGUUUGUGUUGUUGUUGGACUCUCCUAGUUUAUUUUGCAGGCGAACGUGGCGGCACACGCGGAGAAAACGGCGCAGACGGGGGCUGCCGUUUGGGGGCGACGGCUGCUUUUUUUUUUCUGCCUGGGGUUUCUCUGCUGUUAGGUUUAGGUUAUUUUGGGCUAGGGUUAGUUAGUUAGUUAGUUAAUUUUUGCCUUCCGUUCGUGCGACUGGUUGAUUGGCUUGCUUGCCUUAUCCCAGUUCUUCCCAACAUUGCUUUCCCUUUGAUGCGGGAACCCAGGUCCCAGAAAAUUGGAAUUUAAGUGAUGAAAUAAAGAUGUAAAAAGAAAAAGAAGGCAUAAAACAACAAAAAGGCCUAGAGAUGCAUUAAUUGGCGAAGGGAUGAGACUGUUGCGCUGAAUUGAAUACAAGUCCAAACUGAAUGGAUUCGAUUUUGGAAAAUUAGAGUAAAUUAAUUUUAGGAAAAUGAUUUCAAUGAUUUUCUAAAAUAUUGGUAUUUUCCAAUAUUUGGAUUAUUCAAGCUAAAAUAUUUUUAGCUGUUUGGUAAAUUUUGUUAGAAUUUUAAUUAAUUUGACACUUAAUUGAUUAUUUUCUUUGUAGAUACAAUUAUUAUCCAAUGUGUCAAUGAUUUGUACAAUAAAUUUGACACAAAAAUUCGACUUGACGCGCAAAACAAAUAUUGUAAGAUUAUUUUAUUAUUAUCUCUACUAAACUUUUUGUAUUUUAAGCUUAUCUCUUUUUAUUUUAGGAUUUUAUUAAUUUCAAUUAUUAUAAUAUAUAUAUAUAUAUAUAUAUAUAUAAUGUAUAAUUACCGGGCAGCACAUGACAACCAACCCUUAUACUUAUUAAUAUGGGCGGAGUCAAAGAGGUUGAUAAAAUUCCCAUCCUCCUAAAAUUGAAAAUUUCACUUUUAAUUUUUUAUAUUUAAAAGUUUAAAUUAAUAUAUGAUAAAACAGCAUUUAACUCUUAAAAAUAACCUUUUAAAAAUCAUAAAAUUAUAAAAUUAUAAAAUUAUAAAAUUUCAUUUAUACCAUCAUAAAAACAUACAAUUUAAUUCCGAUCUCUUUUAAAAAAAUUUUGACUUCGCACCUUCUUAUUAAGUUUUAUCUUAUUAUCAGUUAUGUGCGAACUGACUUUUUAUGGUGUGUAUGUAUACAUGCUCUUUGUAAAGUAAUUACGUGCGAGCUCCUUGUAAAGUGUCUAAGUGCGAGCUAGUCUAUAAAGUAGUAAAAUGUGUGUUAUGUAAUCUAUGAGUUGUAUUGACAUGCGAACUAUGUUAAUACGCGAGCUGCGUCAACUUGUGUGCCGUAGCAAAAGUACAAGUUAUACUGUGGUAUUAGUUAUAGCUCGGGUCUGGUGACUAGACCAGACGAGGGGUGUUACACAAGAGACAAAGAAUAAGUUAUAGGUGUCUUAAGUUGUCAAGCGUUUUAGGGAUUGGGCCAGAGAAUAAGUUAUCUACCAAGUCCAGAAACUUAAGCAUGGAAACAUUGGAGAUUGAAUUGGGAAUGUUUCCGCUAAGUUUAUUUCCCCUCAAUAUAAGAUACUCAAGCUUUAGAGCAUUGGUCAUAGAUGGUAAAUUACCUGUAAAAUUACAUUUUUAGUAUACAUAUUCAUUGAAUACCAAAUUCACAAAGUAUAUAAUACACUAAAAUACAUCUUUAAAAUAAAAAACUGUAAAACUUUAUAUCAAAUAAAAAUAAAAUUUUGGCAUGGAAAAUGUGAUCAAAUCAAUUUGAACAAUGGCAUAUAAUAAGAAUUUUUGAGUAGUAAUUAGUCCAUUGUGAUUUGUAUAUAAAAAAAAAAAACCAUUCCAUGCUUGUAAGUUACUUGAAAAAAUUGCAUGUUAUAAUAUAUAAAAUCUGUACUCCAAACUAAAAAUGGACUCCUCACUAUUCUUAGCCCAAGUCUUGCAUUGAAAUCAUCAUUAUCAAAUUUACAAAAAUAUAUAAUACAUUGUAAAACUUUAAAUCAAAUAAAAAUAAAACUUUGGCAUGAGAAUGUGGCAUCUAAUCAAUCUUAAAGAUGACACAGAAUAAGAGAUUAUGAAUAAUAAUUAAUUAUGAUUUGGAAAGCAAAAAUUUUAAAUCAUUCUGUAUGAGUAUUCGGUUUAAUGGUAAACUUGCAUCAAUAUAAGUCUAAGAAAUCAAAAUAAUAUAACAUCAAUAAAAUUAUUUCAAAUACAAUAUUGUUCUAAAGGUUAGAUGUUGGUUUAGCCCUUAAAGUUGUAUUUAAUUAUUAUUUUGGUACCUAAAAAAAUUAUUUGUACCAAUUUGAUAUUUAAAGUUGGAAGCAUUAAUAAAAUGGUACAAAAAUAUUAUUAUGAAAAAUUAAAAAAUUAAAAAUUCAGACUUUUUUUUAAAAAAAAUGUAGAAAAUGUUUUUAAAAAUUAUAAAAUAGGAAAGUAAAACAUACAUAAACAGUAAAAUAGACAUAGAGAAUACCAAAAAUUUAUAUAUAUAAAAAAGAAAAUAGGACAAAAAAUAAGAAAAACUUAAAAAGAAUCAACAAACCAUGGAGAAGGUGAGCUGUGGAAUUGAUAAGAUCAAUUAGAAAAUGGUUUCGAGCUUUCUGCUUAGUUAAAUCAAGUAAAUUAAAAUGCCAAAAAAGAGAAAGGAAAACCCCAAAUGUGGAAAUACGAUAUAAAGAUUAAGAGUGAAAUUUAAAAUCCAAGCUAUAUAUUCUAUAAGCUCCAAUUAAAAAUUUUGGUCUAAAAUAUUUGUGUUAAUGUAACAUUUUGAAAAAUAAAAUAAACUUAAUAUCAAUGUAAUCAAUAAAAUUUUAUAAUGGAUUUGAAUUUAAUAAAUAAUUUUAAUAGUGUUGACAAUUCAUUAAAAUUCACAUUAUCAUUUUUUUAAGAAUAAAUCAUUAAAUUAAUAAAUUACAUGUUAAGGGUUAAGAUGUUUGUUUCAAAUACAAUAUAACCAAAAGAAAUUAUAAUGGAUCUGAAUUCUGUAAAAAGAUUUAACGGUGUUAAUAAUUCUUUAAAAUUCAUAUAUUCGUUUUGUCCUAAAUAAAAUAUUUUAACGAAAUUAAACUUUUUUAUAAAAAAAUAUUUUAAAUUAAAGAAACCAGGGAAUUUUAAUACCUUCCAGGUUAUUUAACGCCAAAUAUAAUUCUUCAAGUUGUGUCAAAUUCCCGAUACUUCUUGGAAUGAUCCCCGUAAAUUUAUUAAUGGACAGUGACAAAAUUCUGAGGUUGUUGCAUUUGCCUUUACUUGAUGCAACGUUACCAGAUAAUUCAUUCGAAAUCAAGUCAAGCCCUUCAAGCUUGGGAAGGUGUUGACACAUAUCAUUAGGCAAACUAUCUAAUAGGCUAUUUUCGGAGAGACCAAUAGCUUUCAGAGAAGAAAUGUUGAAGAUGGGAGAUGGAAUCGGACCUUUAAGACCUUUAAUGGCUUGAAUACUAAGCAUUUCCAAACUAAGAAGAUUACCAAUUUCCUCCGGAAUUUGACCUGCAAAUUAACAUAGUUGAAAAAUCAAGGUGUAAAGCUAACUAUUUCGUAAGUGUAAAUCAAAGAGGCUUUUUCUUUAUUUUUUUUUCGUUAUGAAAUAAUAUGGAUAUGUUAGAUUCUAAUCAUAUUUAAGUAUAUUAGUUCAGCUAAUUAAGUAUUUUUCCUUGAAAGAAAAUGUUCUUAUUUUUUGUAUUUAUAUUACAAAUAAUUUUUUUACAAUUUAAAACAAAAGAGGUAAAAUGUGUUUAAAUUAAAGACAUCAAGGAAAAUGCAUACCUUCUAGGUUAUUAAACCCUAAAUAUAAUUCUUCAAGUCUUGACAGAUUUCCAAUACUUCUCGGAAUGAUUCCCACAAAUUGAUUAUAGGACAAUGACAAAUUUUUAAGAUUGUUGCAUUUGCCUAUACUUGAUGGAAUGUUACCAGAAAAUUCAUUCCAACUCAAGUAAAGCCCUUCAAGCUUGGGAAGAUGUUGACACAUAUCAUUAGGCAAACUACUUGGUAAGCUAUUACCGGAGAGAGCAAUAAUCGUCAGAGAAGAAAUAUUGAAGAUGGAAGAUGGAACCUGGCCAGAUAAUUGAUUAAAUAUCAAGUUAAAGAUCUCUAGAUUGGACAUGUUGACAAGUGUUUGAGGGAUUGUGCCUGUAAAAGUAUUAUUUGUCAUUUGCAACCUUUGAACUUUGUGUAAGUUCCCAAGCCAUGAUGGAAUUUCCCCAUUAAGACUGUUAAAGCUUAAUUGUAAGAUCUUCAAACGAUGCAAUUGACCCAAUUCUUUAGGUAGCAGGCCAUAGAAACUGUUGCGAUUCAAGUCGAGAGAGAGUAGAAAUGAAAGAUUUCCAAGGUAUGGAGGGAUAGUACCCCUAAGAUUCAUGCUUGAAAGAUUCAAAGCUAUAACUCUUUUAUGGAUGAUGCCACACGAAACACCAAUCCACCUGCAAACAGAGGUAGAGGCCGUCCAAUUGUUUGCCAAGACAUUUGAGGAUCGGCAAUGCGAUCCUUAAACUUCAGAAGCGCAAACUGAUCGGAGUUGAGAUUCCUGGCUGUCAUAGCCAAGCAAAGUACGGAACAUGGUAUGAAUAAAGCUAAAAGAAGAUGAAAGCAAGCGUUGUAGUUCAUGAUUUGAAGACGAAUUAAGGCAAGAAAAUAAAAAAAGUAGGAAAAGGGAAGUUGAAAUGAUAAAAUAGCCCAGAGAGCAUGCUUUAAUAUGUUUCAACCCUCGCACACUUCUCCCACAUUAAAUUCACUCGGCCGGGUUGGGCCGGGGGGGGGGUUACAACACUAAUCUAGAUUUUACUUUUUCAUUGGUAUCAAGUCUUCUUCACAUACAAAGAAAAUAUAAUUUCUCCUAAAUUUUCUUCACAUUACUCCACAUAAUCCGUAAAAAAAUACCUUAAUAAAAUAUAAUUUUUAAAUACUAUAUAUUCUUUUAUUUUUCUCACAAUAAUAUAUUGGUUAAAAUAUGCUAUUCCCCCUGUACUUUUUAUAAUUUGAGAUUUAGUCCAUGUACUUUAAAAGUUAAAAAAUCCAAUCCUCCUAAAUUCUCAAUUUAAAAAUUUUAGUCUAAUCAUUAUCAUUGUUGGUAAUUCUGUGAAAAUUUGUUAACUUAACAUGUUUAUUUUCUAUCAUAUGCAACGUCAUAUGAAGAUAGCCUAAUCAACAUAUAUACCAAUAUGAUAGAUUUUGACCAAAAAUACUAAUAGUAUUAAUGGUAGGAUCGGAUUAUUUAAAUAAGGAAAGUAAGAGGAGUUAUUUUUUAAGUACAAUGACUAAAUUUUAAAUGUUGUCCAAGUACAAGCAUUAACAACAUAUUUUGACCUAAAUUUUUUUAAAACUUUUAAAAUAGAAUAAGGUUAAAAUAUGCUAUUAGUGCUUAUACUUUCAUAAAAUUUGAGAUUUAGUCAUUGUACUUAAAAAGUUAAAAAUUAGGUCCUACCAUCUUUAUUUAAAAAUCUUAGUCCUAUCAUUAACAUUGUAACUAUUAUUUUGUCAAAAUUUGUCAACUUGACAUAUUAAUUAGGUUUCCCUUAUAUGACGUGAUAUAUGAUUGACAAGUAAUAAACAUGUUACGUUAACAAAUUUUGACAAAAAAUUACCAAUGAUGAUAAUGAUUUACUAAAAUUGUAAGGGAUUGAAUUUAUAACUUUUAAAGUAUAUUGACUAAAUCUUAAAUUUUAUAGAAAUACAGGGACUAACAACAUAUUUUAGACACAUAAUAAUAUAUAUAUAAUUUUCAAUUAAAACUACAUUGGACUUAAUUGGCUAAGGGUUAAUAUAUUAAUGGGUAUAUGAGUUUCACAAUUUUUUUUUAUAAUGCUGUAUUGUUGGUUUUUGUUCAAUGUGAUAAAUGUAUUUGGCAAAAAGUUAUAUAUUUUGGUUUCUUAAAGGUAACAAUGUUAGCUUAUUAGUGUUUGAUUUAAAUUUUAGAGUUGAUUUAAUGAACAUUAAUUGCUAAAAUUAUUAGUUAAUUAUGAGUUUUCGUCAAAUCAAAUUAAAACCUACUCAUAUAUAUAUAUAUAACAAGUUACGUCAUAUACUAAAUUUACAAGAAGUGACUCUCUCUCAAUUUUUUUUAUAUUUUUUAGUUUUUAAUUAUCCAUUAAAUUUGUUUUUUUCUAAUAAAAUUAAAUUAUAGAAUACCAUUAAAAUUCUAUAUAAAAAAUUAAAUAUUUAUUUAUUUUAUUUUUAUUUCAAAACCUAACAAUUUUACGUUCUUUUUCCCAAUUUUCUCUACACGUUCUUCCCUUCUUUUCCACCUUGUUCUUUGUAACUUUCUUUUCUUCUUCCAUUUUAUAGUUACUUGUUGUCUAUCAAGGGAGUCUUAUCAUCGUGUGUUUAUUUAAUCAGAAGAGAAGAAGGUAGGUUUUGUUUUUAGGGGUUAUUGAUAGAAUUUUUUUUGUUUUCUAUUUGUUAUUGAAUUGAAGGUUUCAUUAAUUGGUUUGUUAAACUAAGGUUUCUGAACAGUUUGGUGGAGCGAAUCGAAUGGUUCUUGGUGCUGGGAAUCGCGAUUAAGGUGUUUGUUCAGAAACUCUUCAAUUUUGUUAUCGAAUUUUUGAUUUGAUUCUGUGAAAUUUGACAUAUUUUGUAUGUUUUGAAAUUGACCAAUCGAAGUGUCGAUUGUUAUGGAAUUGUUUGAAAUUCUGUGUGUUUUUGGUGUAUUUCUAAGUUAUCGUGGGUUCGGGAACAUUUUGACAACAAAGGCACAUUUUACAGCCUAAUUCAGUGUGGUUUCAUGACCACAUGAGUGGCCAUACAGGCAUGUGCUGUACACGAGCAGUCCACAGAGCCGUGUGAAUUUGGGAAUUAGGGCUUUCGGGCCAAUUUUUGUGCCACACGGCCGUGUGGCUAAUAUUUGGGAAUUUUAGUCAAUAUUCACACGGGUGUGGGUUUUGGACACACGGUCGUGUCCCUAAGCCACACAGGCGUGUGAGAUUUUCACAUGGCUGUGUCUACGCUGCACUUUAUUUUAUCAAAUUUAGACAGAGAGUUACACAAGCUAUUUACACGGGCGUGUGCCUCCUUCACAUGGGGCGUGUAGACCUCCACACAGCUUAGGAACUUCCACAUGGUUGGGGCACACGGUCAUGUGGCCUUGUUUUGUAGAUUUUUGUUCUGUGUCAUAUUUUGACUCGUUUUGUGCUUCUGUGUAUUCUAACCCCAGUUAAGACUUAGUAAGAAUGUUUAGGACUCUGAUUAGUUAGAAUUUGUGCAUUUGUUCGUAACUAAUGUGUUAAUUUAUUAGUUUGAUUAAAUGUUAUGUGAUGUUAUUAGUAAAUAGUUACAAACCUAAUUGAUUCUAAAUUUGAUUGAUUGAACUUGUGUGUUUUGUUUUCUGUAUGAAUGUUUGUAUGUUGUGUGCAUUUUGCAAUCGCAUAAAAAUUUUACAAUUGACUGACUGAAUAUGAUGUGCAUUCAUACAUAUGCAUAAAAUUAGGGUUUUGGUUAUGAAGAGAAGGGAGCCUGUUUCGGUAGUUCAACUGUAAUAUUUCUGAACAGCAGUUUACCGCGUGAUUCUAUAUAUAUGUCAGCUCAGCUGCAUAUUAUGAUUUCGAGUGGCUUAGUUUCCACAUUGUAGUGUGUAGGGUGGAUGAACCUUUUAUAGUUCUUGUAAUAGGCCCAAUCUGCCCGGGCCCAACAAAAUAAGUUACAAACCCAAAAUAAACAUUACAAGUCCAAAAAUAAAAAAAAACUAACGGCUCAAGUGGCCCAAAACCUGACCCCUUUAGCUGCCGCUCCACCCACGCGCGCCAACCUCCUCACGCGUGCUACCAUGUCAGCACCUCCGUACCCUCCACGCUCUCUCUGCCACCAUAGCAUGCGUCCUUGCCCCAUACAUGCAGACCAAGCAAAAGAGAGCACAACAGUAAAUAGAAAAACAUUGUAUUUUUCGGCUAUAAAAGCCAUGGACAAAUCAAUGUAAAUUUUUUACGACAAAAAUCAAUACAAAAAAGGCAAUGAGAAACAAAAAAGGUGGUUCUUUUGUUUUUAUUUCUUUUCUACUUAUAUUUCUACUAGUUUUUAAGAAAAAUAAAAAAGAAAGGGGUCGAACCUUACCCUUUUCUCGCAUUUGCGCUGUCGUAGGGGGACGAGGUUCGUUGUUUCCGAUGAAAAACGACGUUUUUUGAGUCAAGGAAGUCGAAAAGUUAAAAAAUGGCCUUCUUUCAAUUUUUCAGCCACCGUGGAUGGUGACCGUCGCCAGCGACCGGAGAGGGUAUUUGAGAGAGAGGGGGAGAGUGAUAUGAGUUUUUUUUUUCAAAGAAUGGGGUGAAAUGAAUUUUUUUUUAAAAAAUUGGUUUUUAUAGAGGAUUGAAACGGCACCGUUUUGGGCAUUAACCCCAGUGGCCAAAACGACGUCGUUUCACCCCUUUAACCUGCGCGUGGAUUGGACCCGCAAAAGGAUCAGCGUGUUUUUGUGGAAGGGUCUAUUUGCGCGUUAGACCCUUCCGCAUUUUUCAAUUGUCUUAAUCCAAUCCUUUUUUUUAUUUUCUAAUUUGUACUUCAAAUUUUAUUUCAUUUUCGAUAUGGUCCUAGCAAAACGGCGCAUUUUAGAGGGCGGGGAUAUUUCCCCAGUUGGUCCCUCUGAGUUAUUCGCGCCUUUCAAAUGGGUCAUCUACCUUAUUUUCAUUCUCGAUUUUUACCCAAAUUUCUGAUUAAACUUCAAUUUAGUCCUUCUGCGUCUAUUUUGUUAUAGUUUUAGCCCCUCUUAUAUUCAUAAACUUAUUUUAUUAGGAUUUGGACUCUUAAUUUUAUUUCAAUGUCAAUUUAAUCCCCUUUUAUCUCUGUCUAGGUUUUAUUUUCUUUUUUUUGUUGUGUUUUAUUUAUUUUAUUUAUUUGCUUACCCUUUCUUUUUUUUAUUUUGAUUUUCGUAUUUAAUGAUGCUUUUAUUUUAUUUAUUUUAUUCUUGACUUUCAUUGUUAUUGUUGUUGUUGUUGUUGUAGUUGUUGUUGUUGUCGUCGUCGUCGUCGUUGUUAUUUUUAUGUUUUUUUAUUAUUUCAUUUAUUUACAUAUUUUAUUCCAAAUUGUGUCUUUAAAUUUCGUUUAUAUUUUAAUUUGGUUCUUUACUUUCAAUAUUUUUUAUAAACUAUUUUCCCUUACAUUAUUUAUGUAUUUAUUUUAUUUGUUUUUUUUAAAAGUUGGUAUUGUCCUUUUAUGUGCAUACUUUGGCAUUAUUACCAUUGUUAUUAUUUAUUUUAUUUAUCUUUUGAUUAUUCUUAUUAAUGUUAAAGUAGUGUAUAUUAUAUGAUUCUCGUAAAUUGUCUUUAUUAUAUUCAUUAUUGUUAUUUAUUAAUGCAACAUUUCAUUCAUGUAUUAUUUUAAAGAUUACACAUUUUUACCCAAAUUUGUAAAAAAAUAUAAAAAAAUUAGAAAAUAAGCAAUAUUUUGUAUUUUGGAAUUUGAAAAGUCGUUCCCUAACUUACGGGGUUUCAAAAUUUUUUGAUAAAUCCAAAUAUACGAAUCAUUUUUCAAAAACACAUUUUUAAAAUUAUCUCGAGAAUUAAAAAGAUCGUUUUCCAACUUAUGGAACAUGAUUUCUUUUCUAAAACUGAGAUAAUAAAAAAAUUCUAAAAAUAAAUAAAAUUUUCGGUGUUAUUCUCAUUUCGAGAUUUAAGGUUAUGUCCUAACUCACGGGGUAUAAUUCUUUUUCUCGGUUGACGUGAAAUAUGCCCUUUUUAAAAUUCUUUUAGGUAAUUUUAAUAAAAAGGAUCGUAUUUUAAGUCUCUUCAAAAUUUUCAACUUUCGACAUUAAGACAUUAAUUAAUCAAUUAGGUAUCAAUUUUGGGCAUGACAAGGGUGUUAAUCCUUCGUCGCACGUAACUGACUCCCGAAUCCGUUUUUCUCAAAUUUCGUAGACCAAAAUCAUUGUUUUAGUAAAAUCGAAACGUUUUGUUAAAACGAUUGAAUUGGAAGGUGAUCCGAUCACACCUCAAAAAAAAUAUCGGUGGCGACUCUAGUUUUUUUUUUCGUUUUUAUUUUCAAAAUAAAAGUUGACCCCUUUUUAUUAAAAAAAAGGCUUCGACAGUUCUAUGUGGUGUGCAGGGUGGACGGGCAUUCUUUUUAAAAUUAUUUGCAAAUGUUUGUACUAAUUUGAUUAUUACAUGUGUUUGAGACAUUGCUUAUGUAGUUUGGUACUAUAUAUUGACUUAUCGAUGUAAGAUUUUCGUAAGUGACCAUCAUAUAGUGCUUGUCUAAAAUAUUUAUGGUGUUAUCCCCUCUUUUACCGACUGUUGUGUUUUGGACUCACACUGAGCUCGCGUAGCUCACCCCCUUAGUUUUCUCCCUUUUAGGUACUCUCGUGUUCUGUAGCUAGACUCAACAUAUUAGAAGACUCAGACGGAAGAUAUGAAUUUGAUUUAAUAAAGUGUUUCGAUUCAAUUUUAGUUUUUCUAACUUGUUGGGACUAUAAGUGUUAAUAGGGACUGUGGUAUAAGUUUUACUUCUGGAUUUUCGUAAAUUUUUAUUUUGGGACUGAACUUUUGAAACUGCGGAAUUAUACUUUCUAAUGUUUUUAACGUAAUUUAAAAUUUUUGUUUGAAUCCUGAAUGGUUAAAUGACUUAGUUUGAUUUUAGCAAAAAUGAGUUAUAAAUGAGAUGUUAACAAUUAAUUUUGUAAAAUUAUUUUUAGAUCACUUCGGUGUUCAAAGUAACCUCUGAGAUUCGAUCCAUACUUCUAGGCCGAGUUUUGGGGUGUUACAUUAGUUUUCAAGAGGAGAUUGGUGAUGUACUUGAAGAGAGAUUGAUUUUGAAAACUUUGACUCCUUUUUGCUUUGAGAGUUGAUUUGAAGAGAAAAGAGCUUGAAGGUGCUUUUGUAGAAUUAGGACAAAUUUUAAAAUAAGGACUAAAUUGGAAAAAAAAGUUUUUGGGUUGGGCUAAUUUAAAAAUUUGACACUUUUGUGGGAUAAAAAUAGAAAAAUAUUUUGGUUGAAUACACACAAGGAGUUACGAACUUGAUACCUAUAGGUAGACUAAAGCCUUACCACUGAACCAACAAGCUCAUUCUUUUUAUCUUUUAACACAAAUAAAUUUUAAGGCAUACUAAGGGCUUGUUUAGCAUUGCUGUGAAGAAGCACUUUUGGCUUAAAAAACGCUUUUGAGAGAAAAGUUGUUCUAAGCUAGUAACAUUUGGCUAAGAUUUUGGCUUUUCAAAAGCACUUUUGGCCAAAUGGAGAAGCUAAAAUUUUUAGCUUUUCUUACCCAAAAGCACUUUUGAGUGCUUAAUUACUAAUUCAUCCCUCCAAGAACACAUUUUAAAAUAAAAUAAUACAAAUAUGUUAAUAUUUAAUUACAAAUAUUUAAUGGUUAUAUUUAAAUACUUAAAAUAUAAUUUAUAUAUUCUAAUUAAAUUUUAUAAAUAAUUAAUAUUUGUUGCUUAAAAAUAUUUAAAAUUUAUAUUCCAUAUAUUAAAAUAUUAACAACAAAUUAUAAUAAAUUAUUUUUUAUAUUCUUACUAAAAUAUCAUAAUAUUAAUUAAUUUUAAUAUUAUUUAAAUUCAUAUUUGUUACUUUAUAACAUCAUGUCUAAAAUUGACGUUUUAUUUCUCAAAAAUACUUUUUGACAUGAAUACUAAACACUUAAAUCUUAAACUAAACUUCUCAAAGAUACUUUUCUACAACACUUUUUAAAAGCACUUUCCAAAAUCAAUGCUCAACUAUCUCAAACUCUCUUACCUUAUACUUUAAAAGAGAAGAAAAGAUUUUAAAUUUUAUCCCUAUUUCUUUUAACCCAAUUUUUAGGAUGUCAAACAUUUAUAAUUUUCUGUGUUUUUCUUCUUUGCUGACUUUUUUAAUGUCAUUUUCUAUCAUGAAAGAAAAUUAAAGAUUCACUAUUUAUUUCUCAACCACUAUGAAAUUGCUUGACUAUGGGGGUAGAAUUUUCUCACCAAUUUUCUAACAUGAGAUUUUUUGAAUGAGACAAAUAUUUCAAUUUUAACACAAACAUAUCUUUAGGGUUAUAGUUUAGUUAUUGAGAGCGUUUCCCAUAAUUAGUCACCCCUAUUUGUGUGUGAUUAGGGAAAAUUUUAUUCAAAAUUAAUUAAUUUAAAAAUAAUAAAUAAUAAAUAAAUUUAUAUUGAAUUUUAUAUAUAUUUAUAACAAAAUAUAUUAAUUUUGGGGUUAUACUUCACUUCAGUCCACUGACUUUUCCACAAUUGGUUUAAAAGUUUAUCCCACCAAUGCCAAAUUGGUGCUUUAUCUCUUCUCUUAUUUAAUUUCUUUUAUAAUCAGAUUUGUUUUACUAUUAACUAAUAAUAAAUCAAUUCAAUUAGUAUUUAAUCAUUUUUAGGCUUCCUAAAUCCUUUGAGGAUGAUUUUAAAGUUUCUAAAGAUGAUUUUAAGUAGUCCCAAAAACCACUGGAUUUUUUAGUGACAUCCAAUUUUUCUUUUCCUGCAGUAUUGUUGAAAGUUAAUUUUCAGAACAAAAGUUUGCCUUACCAAAGAUGAUUUACCAAGACAUGCAUGUAGCAUGCAAAUAUGAAACAAUAAGAAAUAACUAAAAAAAAUGAUCCUUCAAAAUUAAAAAAGAAAGAAAGAAAGAAAGAGAGUGAGAUAAAUCUAAAAUUGCUUAAUAAGUCAUUUGAUAUUUGAAUUUGAUAUUUUUUAAAUAUUAUUUUCUUGUUUAGUGAGUUAUUUAUAUUUGAUAAAAGUUAUACAUCUUGGUAUCUAAAGUUAACAAUGUUAACAUUUUAGUGUUUAAUGUAGGUUUUAUGGUAGCGAUUUGAUGAAAAUUUCACUGUAAACUAAUAUUAUUAGCAAUUAACUUUCAACAAAUCUAUAACAAUCCCAAAUCCAGCCUAGACGCUAUGGUCAAACCUGGAAGGUUACAUCAGUACGUAGAAAAUUUUGUUCUUCCAAAUGUGUUUUGUUACUAAAUUAAGUCAUCCCAGGUUGCCCAAAAACGAUGACUCGCCACCAUGAGAUGCCCGACAACGAUGGCUUAUCAAUACGCAAUUAAACUGUUAGAUCAGAUAUUUGUGGUCAUGCCAUUGAAUUGCAACUCAGCUACCGAAACAAAAAUAUGUGGUGAAACCACUAUAUUGUAUCCAAGCUGCCAAAUAAAAAUAUGUGGAUAAACCAACAGAUAGUGCAGACCAUUAAACUGCCAAAAAUUCCUCCCUUUCAUAUUAUCCCAACCCCAUGCAAUGUGACAUGGCAUGCAUUUACAUAAUCAAAACGACAAGCAUGUAAGACAUGUAGUCGUACCAUAACAGAACUUAGAAAGCAUGGCAUUCUCACAAAUUCAACAAAAGCAAGUUGGUAUGCUAUAAAGUCACAUGCAUGAUCACAUAGCAGAAUCAGAAACAUAAAAAUAACGUAACCAAACCUCAUACCCAUAUACAAACAUAACAAUACAAAUCACGCUACCAGAUUCAUUAGAAAACAGUUCAUGCACACGAAUUUCACAUACCUUAUUCAUAUCACCUACAAUGUCAAAUUAUCAGACGUUACAUUUUCAAAGUCAGUUUUACACAGUACGAACCCUACAAAAUGGCUAAACAUGACUCACGAAUCAAAACGGGCCUAAACGAAAAUUUUUAGAAAAUGGGCCAACAUGGCCCAAUUAACCUAGGCCGUAUGGCGUCGACAGUCCAAUUUUCGACUUUCAGCAGUUCAUUAUUUUUUGAGUUUUUCGAUAUACAGCUUACUAUUUUCCGAAGCAAAAUCAUGGCAAGAAUUCCAAAACCUAAAAUCCAUAUUCAACCCACUCAAAUUAGUAAUGAAACCCAAAACUAAAUCGUUAAACAACCAAAACUGCUACCAAUAAACCUUAUCAAACCAGGAAUCAACCUUUUGGCAUCUGACUACUAACCCAGAAUAGUAGCAGCAGUACUAAAAAUCUCUCAAUUCACCGGAAGACUAUUUGUUACAGAAACGUCACCUAAACCAAAGAUUUCAGAGUAAUCAAAAUCGCGUCACACAAAGAAGGAAACAAAUUAACCCCAAAAUCGUGAAACUCAACAAAGUACGAAUCUUUUCACAUAUUCCUUACCACCAACCGUCAAGAUUGCUCAAAAACCACUAAUGACACCGACCUUCGCAAGGUUAAAUUGAAACCAAAAGGCAACUAAAGAUGGAACAAAGGUUGUUAUAAAAAAAUAUUAACAAAGACUUAUUGGAGCAAAAAUGGCGAAAAAUCAAGAAUAGGGAGAUUGGAAAAAAAAAAAAACAAUGAAACGGCAAAGAGAAGGAGUGGGAAAGCGACGACAGUUUGUGGAGAGAUUUUGGGUAAAUAAAAAGUAACUCACCACUCAACCUAUUAAAUCUGAUUACCCUCUAAACAGAUUCCCUUAAAGUUUAAAUUCAACCCAAAUACCACUACAUAGGCGGCAUAGUGUAAGGAAACAAAAAUAUUUCUACUUUGCACACACGGGGUCUUGAACACGAAACCUUAGGAUAAUUUGAAGUCUUGCCACUAAAUUAGUAGACUCAUCCUUGAAAUUAAUUGAAUGAAAAUAUUAUUUAUGUCAGAUGAUCACGGAUAGAGUUUAAGACCAAAGAUGACAAAAAUUCAAAGGAAAGAUUUAAACCUAGAACCUCACACACACAAGCAUAACACCUAUCCACUGAACCAGAUUUCCUCCAUUGACAUAAUUUUCACAAUAUUAACUAAAAAUUCAGAAUAUGGUCACUCUUGGUUUCACUUAUCCAAUUUCUUCUAACCCGAUUUUUUUGGUGUGACAACUCUCACCUCUUUAAAAGAUUUCAUCCUCGAAAUUCCUGCUGUGACACCAUACACUUAACCACAAAUCUAAAAUUCCCUAGUCCAAAUCGACCACCAGGCUAUCAUUGUACAACUCUAAUAUCCAUUCAAGUCCGAUCCAGACAAUAUUUUAGAGGAAUUUCCUAUUCACUACCUCGGAUUACCUCAAUAAGCUUUCCACGGAAACAUAACUAAUGAUCCUUUGCCCCAAACUCUAAAAAACAUCAUUACCACAAAAUACAGCUACAAACUGUUGACACUAUUUUUUUGAUAAAACGGGGUCGACUUGGUUUUUGAAAAUGAAAACGAACACGGGAGUUGCCACUAGUCUUUUUUGAUGAGGUGUGAUCGGGCCACCUCAAAAAGUUGUUGUUUUUAAUAAACAAUUUGAUUUUAUUAAAACAAUACUUUUGGUCUGCGAAAUUCAAAAAAACAGGUUUGGGAGUCGGUUACAUACGAGGAAGGAUUAGCACCCUUGUAACGCCCAAAAAUUGGUACCUAGUUGAUUAAUUAGUGUCUUAGUGUCGAAGAUUGAAAACUUUGAAGAGUUUUUAAAAAUACGAUCCUAAAAAAAAACUCGAAUAACAUGGAUUGAAAUUUAAGAUUCUCUUGUUCUGAAGGAAUAUCACAUCCAGCACGUUAGGACACGAUACUUUAAAUCGUCGAAACCAAGAUCACUUUAUGAUUUCAAAAAACCAUACUUUGAAGUUUUAAGAGGAUAUUUGGCUAUUUGGUCAAACGAGAAAUCGAAACCCAGCACGUUAGGGCACGCUUUCUCGAAUUUCCAAAUGUAAAAUAUUGCCUUUAUUAUUUUUUAGAGAAAUCCUCAUAUCGAGAAAACAACAUGUCAUAUCCAAUGUGUUAGGACACAACGUAUUGAAUUCCCGAUACGAGAGUACAUGCCAAAAAUUUGCUUAUUUAAAAGAUAUUUAGCUAUCUAGGGUUUAAAAAAAAAGGGUUCAUGCCUAGUAAGUUAGGACACAAUCUUUUCUUAAUUCCCGAGAUCGUUUAAAACUUUUGCUUGAAAAUAUUCAUGUACUUUGAUUUAUUGAGAAAAUUGAAACCCCGUAAGUUAAGGCACGAUUUCUCAAAAUUUCGAGCAUGAAAUAUCACUUUUUUUUGAAAUUAUCAUUUUUGCGUAUUUGGAUAAAAAUUAAUGCAAUAAUCAUGCAAUGCACAUUACUUUUAAUACUAACUAAUAAUCAAAGACGAAUGAAAUAAAAUUAUAUAACAACAAUUUAAAGUAAGUAAUAAAAUUUAAAAAUGAAUAAUACAAAAGAUUCAAAGUACACAAUGUAAAAAAUUAAACAUAAAUAAAACAUAGAAUAGUUUGAAAUGAACAAUUUUAAGCAAUUUAAAAUAACAUUACAUAGAAUAGUUUAAAAUGAAUGCUAUAUCAAAAUAAAUAAUAUAUAUAAAAGUUUAGGAUAAAAUAACAUAGAAGGCAAUCCAAAAUAAAUAAUGUAUACGAAAAAAUUUAAAAUAGAUAAUAUCGAACAAUUUAAUGUAAAUAAUACAUAUAAUUUAAAAUAAAUAAAAUAUAAACCAUUAAAAAUAAUAAUAUAUAAGAAUUUAAACAAAAUAAAUAACUAACAAGCUAAAGAAUUAAAAUCUGGCAGAUUAGGGGACCAAAUCAUAACAAAAUGAAAUUUAAAAGUAAAAAUGACAACAAAAUAAAUAAAUGAGGAAUAAAAGACAAAAACGCUAAAAGGCCGAGGGUCAAAUGGGUAAAAUCCAAACCCGGACACAUGUCCAUUUUCAGUGCAUCAAUGGGUCAGGGAUCCGAUUGAAAACCACACAAAAUUGCAGGGUCAAAUUUAAAAGAGUGAAAAUAAACAAAAAAAGGGAGUAAAUUGAAAGGGGCAUGAACGUGAGGGGCCAGGGUUGCAAAUAACCAUUCAUGAAAACGCACGGAUCCUCCCUAGAGCGGGUCGGGUCGUGCGCGGGUGGCCCUAUACGGUGCCGUUUUGGGGCCACUAAAACAGGCCCCAAACGACGCCAUUUUGCGUCUCUUAUAAAAGCUAAACCUUUUUUUUUAACUCAUUUCUUCCAUUCUGUUUAAAAAAAAACCUCAUUCUCUCAACCCUCUCCCUUCCCCGAAUUUGGCAAAGAGCUCCGGCCGAUGGCCACUGUGGCUCCACCGCAGGUGGUGGUCAGAGCCACCAAAAAAUUAGGUUUUUAACCCCCUUUUUAAACCCCGUUCGAAGGCCGAGCCCUCUUGGCCUAAAAUACCGAAGGAAAAUGACCUCCUAUGCUCUUUCUCCGUCUGAUUUAGUCGACCGAAGGGACUCCCGAAGGCAGCCGCGGGAUCUGCCAGGUGAGCCCUUUCUCUUCCUUUUUAUUUUCGUUUACAAAAAUAAAAAAAUAAUAAAAAUAAAGACAAAAGAAAUAGGGAGAUUGGAAAAAAAAACAAUGAAACGGCAAAGAGAAGGAGUGGGAAAGUGACGACAGUUUGUGGAGAGAUUUUGGGUAAAUAAAAAGUAACUCACCACUCAACCCAUUAAAUCUGAUUACCCUCUAAACAGAUUCCCUUAGAGUUUAAAUUCAACCCAAAUACCACUACAUGGGCGGCAUAGUGUAAGGAAAUAAAAAUACUUCUACUUUGCACACACGGGGUCUUGAACACGAAACCUUAGGGUAAUUUGAAGCCUUACAACUAAAUUAGUAGGCUCAUCUUUGAAAUUAAUUGAAUGAAAAUAUUAUUUAUGUCAGAUGAUCAGGGAUAGAGGUUAAGACCAAAGAUGACAAAAAUUCAAAGGAAAGAUUUAAACCUAGAACCUCACACACACAAGCAUAACACCUAUCCACUGAACCAGAUUUACUCCAUUGACAUAAUUUUCACAAUGUUAGGUACUACACUAUUACAAGAAUAGAUUUUAGAGAGAAAGAAUUUUUUUCUGAGAAAUUGCUUAGUAUUAUUAUCUACUUUAAUCAAUACACUAUCAAUGUUUAUAUACUUCAAUAUGAGUAACUGCUCCUAACCAACUAUACCAGACUAAUCAACUGAAUGAUAACAAACUAACAAAUCCUAUGUUAACAAUCUCUAUUCUUCUAACAUUGUCUAUUUAUGCUUUUGAAAUGCUGACUUGUACUACUAUUUCCUACCCUCUUUUCCUUUAUUUUUUUCAAGCCUUAUACUAUCCCUAAUCAGCCCUUAAAUUUCCCUGCUUGUGCCGCCCAAAGCAGCCCUCGUGUGUGCCAUCCAUGGUAAUGUGUGCCAUUUUAAACACCACUUUGGGGUUGCUGUUUUUCUCUCUUUAGCCGUAUCUUUCCAGAAAAUAAAAAUUGUUGUUCCACUCCUCUAAUCAAUAUUUAAUUGUGUCGUUUUCAGGUGUAUUCGAUUCUCUUCGUUCAAUGAUUUCGAAAUAGUUAACGGGUAGUGUAAGUGUGGAAGCUAGUGAGAUUUAGUGCCGUAUUAAUUUUGUUUAAAUAUGCUGAUUUGGCCGAUUAUUCUAAGGAGUUAUUAAUUGUUUUAGCUACUAAUUUUUGAUAUAAAAUUAUCGUAGGUGCUGAUUGUAACAUCCUGAUUCAACAGUAAGCCGAAACCUAUUCGCACCCUCGCUUGGCAUUAUUUCAGUAUCAACGUGAUUAAUUGUCCUUAGAUGCUCAUUUUUUAAAUUAUCAGAGAUAAUUUGCUCCAUUUUUUUUAGAGGAACCAAUUUGCUCUAUAUCAAGAUUAAGAGGCACAUAGAAGUGUUUUUACUAAUAAAAUCGAAACAUGGACAAAAAUCAUAUACCCAUAAAUAAUUUAAAGCAUUCAAGGUUGAUCUUUUAGGAAUUAAGACUAAAUUAACAAUAUAUAUUUUAAUUAUCUCUACAGUAUAUAUAUUUUAAAUAAUAUAGUAAAAUUUAUCAAUUUCAGUAAAUUUUAUAAUUUUUUUGAAUGUUUUAUAAUAUUUUUGAAAAUUUGAUAAAUUUUUAUUUAUAAUUUUUCUUUUAGAAUUAAAAUCAAAUUUACACCAUGUAUAAAUGUUGAAGGUUGAAUUUGUUGAAUUAAAAAAAAACUAAAUAAACAAAAUGGGUGAAUGCUGAAGACUAAAUUUGUUAUUAUUCCGAUAUUUCAUUUUGUGAUCAAAGGUAUUUUAAUAGUAGGAUGACUAUAAAUUGCAAUUGAUCUAAUGGGAGUGACUAAAAUAAUAAUAAUUUUUUUUUGUGACCAAUACAAAAAUACCUUAAAAUUUGGGUGACUAUAAGGAAAGUUUACCCAAAAUAAAACAUUGUAAGCUUUUACAAAUUCGGACUACUUCUACAGGCGUGAUUGUUCGUUGGCUUACAGUGUCCAACGAAUAACAGCCAACACAGAAUAUAAGAAAAUGUAGGAAUAGGUCGGGAGUUGUCGAGCGAUUGAAGUUUUUCAACCACGAGACCACCUUAAGCAAAUAUGUCAAUAAAUAAAUAAUCUAACUCCAUACAAUCAGAGACUUCAAACUCUUACUGUCCACCUCUGAUUACAUCUCUUGCGUUCCUCCUGUAUAUGUUUUUUUCUUUUUUAUUGCAGAAAUCUGGUUGAAUUCUAGAAUUGUUACUUUGUUUUGGCCGUUCAAAUAAAGGUUCUACAUCUGGGUAAACAUGGAGGGUUAUUCAUCAGAUGGAUCUAAUUCAUUUUUUGGCUCAAACAUACCCAACGAGCCACAACUUCCACACCAAACUGAUUCUUGGGGCGUAGUAGAUGGAUGGCCGGAGCUGCUUGGCAGAGACAAUUGGUUAGUACAGGACAACAUCGACUUCUCUGCUGUAGACUAUGGACCAACGAAUCAGCCUCUGCUAGACCAACACCAUCAAUUCAAUCAAGGAGAAACAUCCAAAGCUUCAUAUCAAACAGUAUCAGAAGGUGGGACUCGAUCUACACUCACUCCAGCUCAAAGAAAAGAAAACAAAAGACGAAGUGAUUACAAGUAUAGGCAAAAGCGCAAGGUAUAAGAUAAUCCAAUUGUUUUUCUCUCUCUCUAGAAUAUAGCCUCUAAUGGAAUUAGUUAUAAUCAAAAUGUUUACUUUAAAUGCCCUUUUCAACCCAUCAUAUUGAUAUGAUUGUAUUUUAACUAGAAUGGUCAAGUGGUGACCAAAUUAUGUAAAUUGAUUUCUUAGAUUUGUCUUGUUUGAUAUUAACAUUCUGCGGUGUAGGUAAAAGCAGAUGAACAGAUUGGGGAGAUUAAACGCUUGAAAGAGGAAAUUCAACGGCUCAACGAUGAGAAUGGACAGUUGACAGCACAACUUGGAUUGCCACUCUCUAAUGCGCAAUUCCAAGCAGCAGCUCAACAGAGACAGGAUGGUUACAUUACCCAGUCAUCCGGCAAGCAGCUUCACCCUCAUACUGUUACUGUCCAUGGAACAAACUCUGAAGCUGUUGGCAAGGUAUGGCAUAUUAAUUGUUCUACAUGUUUGAAAAAUCUAAUGCUUGAACUGGAAUUUAUGUUUGGAUUUCGAUACCUUGGAUUAAACCAUAUUUUCUCAUUAAGAUUCAAAUUCUGGAAUCCUGAUUUGUUUUCCCUCACAAUUCAUUGUCUCGGCUCUGCAACUUGGAGAUGAAUGAGAUACAAAAUCUACAGGGAACAGUUCCUGUAAAUGUAGUUGAUGGUAAUGACGGUAUAGAAAAUAAUCAGACGGGUUCUGAAGUUGAAACAUGCAGUAAUAAUGAAGCAGCCAUAACUGACAUUCUUAUGAAACUUGAAGCUGAUGACGAGAGCAGAGUGAAGUUCUCUGACUUCACCGGCUUACAUGGUGAGCGCAUAUCAGUAGGAAAAUAUAGUUUCCCACCGGCCCUGCAUCCGAUUGUGAACAACAUUAUCGAAGUCUACGGUGAUGUUUGAGAAACAAGUAAGAUGAACACAAGUAUUGCCGAGAUCGUUUAUAUCAUGUUCUGUGCUUCUGUCAAAGAGAUGAGCAAUCUACGACUGGAGCACGUCACCGAGGAUCUGAUAUUGAAGUGGAGGGAUGCAAUCAAAGAUGCUUUACGCAUCAAUUUCAAGGUGGAUUUCGCCAUGGAACAUUUGAAGAAAAUUGCUUGUGCAUACAUCGGUUUAAUGGAACGUCAAAAGCUGGAUAGUGCGGGUUUGAGGAUAUCCAAGUUAGAGGCUGCGUUGAGUACUGCGAAAGAGGAGCAUGCAAAGAUAUGCGAGCAGUCCAAGGUGUUUAUAGAUGCUGCAGAAGAGUUCAACGAUAAGCCUGUCAGCUCUGGUAUGUUCAAAAGACCUGGCCAGAUCAACAUUGAGCUAGAGCUAACAAAUGAACCGGAUUCGAGUACCCUAAUACUUUGAUUUGAGUAGCUAUCAAGUCCAAUCGAGUUUUUGAGUUUUUGUUGCUAAUUAUGCUCAUUUUAAUAAGGUAAAUUGACCUCAAACAUUAAAAGUGAAAGUUGAUAGAGCUAGACCGAGCUUGACCAAGCUUCUAAACUCUUCUACAGCAUCCAUAAACACCUUGGACCGUUCACAUAUCUUAGUAUGCUCUUCUUUCCCAGGAUUCAACUCAGACUCAAUUGGAUAUCCUCAAAGCCUUAUUAUCCAGCUUUCGACACUCCAUUAAACCGAUGUAAGCGCAAGCAAUUUUCUUCAAAUGUUCUACGGUGAAAUCCACCUUGAAAUUGAUGCCUACAGCAUCCUUUGUUGCAUCCCUCCACUUCAAUAUCCGACACUCAGUGAAGCAUAGAACGUGAUAUAGAUCGCCUCGAAAAUACUUGGGCUCAUCUUACUUGUUGCUGAAACACCUCCAUAGAAAUCAAUGAUGUCGUUUACAUUGGAUGUAGAGACGGUGGGAAACUACCGUCAACUACCACAUCGGCCUUUUAUAGUAGAAAAUGCGUGAAUAAAAACAGAGGAAGAAAUUCAUAUGUUAUGUAGAAUCAGAGUUUGGUUUUCUUACAGUUUUCCUUGCGAAAAUCGUUCGAAAACUUGCGAUAACACCCAAGUUAGUCGUACGUUUUGUAUCUGUUGGUUGUUUUGUGUUUUUCUUGUUCACAUUGUAAAGGUCAACAAUCCCGUGAGUAGAAGUCGCACGGAAAAGUGCAACCGCUUCUUUAGUUACAAUAACCAUAAAUAUAAACAAAUGGGUAAAUUUAAUUAUGCUUCUUUAGUAUCUUAUAGAGAUAAUAAUGGGCUGGCUAGGUUCGGGUCAGGUCAAGUAAAAAUUUAAGCGUAUUUGUUAGGUUUAGGCUUGGCAUGAAAAUGAGCCUAAAAAUUUACUCAAAUUCAGUCCGGAUAAAAAUAUUAAAAUUUGGACCCAAUUCGGCCCACCCAUAUUAAUUUUUUUAUAUUAUUUUAUUUUUACAUAAUUUUUAAAUAUAUAUAAUAUAUCAAAAAUAUUAAAAACAUAAAAAUAAAUAUUUUUGAGCAAAUUGAAAAUAAAUUUUAAACAAUAUGUAUACUUAAAUAAUACUAAGAUAGAUGCAACUUAACAAGAAAAAAAUCUUUAAAAUAAUAACAAAAUUAAUAAUAAAACAAGUGUUAUAUAAUAUCCAAACAAUGACAACAAAAUAGUAGUAAUAUAAUAGUGAAAUAGUAGCAAAAUAGGGAGAAAGCAAUAAGAAAAUAUCAUUAAAAUAACAAAAAAAAUAGCAGAUUUUUUUUUGGCAUUUAGUGAAUUCAGGCCGGGCUCAGGCAAAAAUGUCUUACCCAAGGCCUGACCCAUUUUUAAAAUGAACAUUAUUUUUUUGCCUAAGCCCAUUUUAUUUAAAUAUUCAAAAUAUAGUUUAUAUAUUCUAAUUAAAUUUUAUAAAUAAUUAAUAUUUGUUGCUUAAAAACAUUUAAAAUUUAUAUUUCAUAUAUUAAAAUAUUAACAACAAAUUAUAAUAAAUUAUUUUUUAUAUUUUUACUAAAAUAUCAUAAUAUUAAUUAAUAUUAUUAUUAUUAUUAAAAUGCAUAUUUGUUGCUUUUAAUAUCAUGUCUAAAAUUGACGUUUUAUUUUUCAAAAGCACUUUUUGAUAUUAAUACUAAACACUUAAAUCUUAAAUUAAACUUCUCAAAUGCACUUUUCUCUAGCACUUUCCAAAAUCAAUGCUCAACUAUCUCAAACUCUCUUACCUUAUACUUUAAAAGAAAAGAAAAAAUUAAAAUUUAUCCCUAUUUCUUUUAACCCCAUUUUUAGGAGGCCAUAUAUUUAUAAAUAAAAUAAGAAAAAAAGAAAAAAAAGCAUAUACAUAUUGAUGGGUUUUUUCAUGAUUAGACUUUAUUUUUUUUCCCAGGUAAAAGUAUUUAUGGAGAGGAUCAUGUAAAAUUAUGACCUGAAUAAUUUUAAACGUUUCAUCAUUGCAAAAAUGAGAUAAUAGAAAAGAAUGACUAUAUGAAUUUGCAUUUGUGUUCUUUUUUUCAAUAUUUGCUUUAAAAAAUGUGGGAAAUUUUUAAAUUUUAUGAAAUUUUAAAAUUGCACUUCAGUAAACUAUAAAUUUUAUGAAUAUGGACAAGCCAUUUUAUUUAUAAUUUUCUGUGUUUUUAUUCUUUGCUGAAUUUUUUAAUGUCAUUUUCUAUCAUGAAAGAAAAUUAAAGAUUCACUAUUUAUUUCUCAACCGCUAUGAAAUUACUUGACAAUGGGUGUAGAAUUUUCUCACCAAUUUUCUAACAUGAGAUUUUUUGAAUGAGACAAAUAUUCAAUUUUAACACAUUUCCCAUAAUGAGUCACCCCUAUUUGUGAGUGAUUUGGGGAUAAAAGCUUAAACAUUUCUGGAUCACAUUGGAUUUAAGACGGGUGUUUGGAGUUAUAUGAUAUUUUAACAUAUAAAGAGUCCUUGCUUUACUUUGGGUGGUCGUUGGUAUUACUCUCCAACAAUUAUUGUACUGUCAUCCUUAUUCCUACUCCACCUAGCAGAGAAGUUUCAUAAGUGUUUUAUUUCAAGGGAUUAAUAUUAGCAAAAGUACAAGCUAUACUGUGGUAGUAGUUAUAGCUCAGGUCCGGUGAUUGGACCAGGUGAGGGGUGUUAAACAAGAGACAAAAUCUCAACACGAGAAUAAUACCAUCUUUUGAGAGUUCCGUCAACGCAAUAAAUGAAAUUUAAAUGCACACUUUUUUUAAUGAAAGUAAAUAUCAUAUUAAUUAAAGAAAAGCAACUAAAAAUCCAAUAAUAAAAUCCUUAGCAAAAGAUUGAAACACAAUUAUAUUGUAAAUGAAGUAAGAAACUAAGAAAAUCCAAUCUAAUAAAGAAAAUAACUUGAUGCCCCAAAGCUACCAUAAAACUAAAUCAUGGUAAGGCCUGCUGCUCGUUUUAUUGGUUUCCAUCUUUAUUUUGCAAAAGAAGUCUGAAUUCCGAAUAGAGCCUAGUACAUGGGAGCAAAAGAAAGAAAAUUAGUAUAUUAAUUUCCACGAUUUUUAAAACAAACUUCAUGGAAACGAAUAUUGACAUAUUAGAUAUCUAUGAUUAUAAUGCUAAAAUAGAUUAAAAUUAUUAAAUUAAUGGUAAAAUUAAGAGUGAAUUAAUAACCGCAAGCGUACUCAUUACUCACCAUAUUUGUUAAACAUGUUUGAUGUUGUUUAGCAACCUUUGUUUGAUUUUCUUUAGCUCAACCACAACAUCUUUCAUGUCUUUUCUUUCUUCUGGUAACUCAGCUGAACAAUUCAGAGCCAACUCCAUGAUGGCUGAGAUACAAUUUGCUUUAACAACAAAGUACUCAUCCUCUUUUCUUAAUAAAUCAGCAUCUGCAAUUUCUAUUGCUCCUUUCGGCAAUGAACAUUCCAUCCAAUGCCUUAUAGUCACUUCUUCAGCAAAUAGAUUAUCAGUUGGCUUUUUCUUUGUGAAAGUUUCUAUAAGGAUGAUCCCAUAACUAUAUACAUCACAUUUUAUAGAAACAAUUCCAGUUGAUCCAAAUUCUGCAUUUCAAGUAUAAUUAGAGCAUCAUUAAUCCUUAAUUAUUUCUAAAAUGCUUAUUCAAAUAUAUAUCCACAGACGCAUGAAGCAAAAAUAUAAAAUGCAAAUCAAGAAAAUAAUCAUACAAAAAUAAAAAAAUUCACCUGGUGCCAUAUACCCGAUAGUUGCAAGAGUCAUGGUUUGCUUCAUUACAUCACCUUCUCCCAACAAUUUGGCAACAUGUUUAGACAAGCCAAGAGACCUUUGGGAUCAUACGGGUGAUUUUGAUGAUGUUAAUGGUUAUUUUGGUGGAGAGGGUGAAAAAGAAACGAAUGGUUCAUUAUAUAUAAUAUAAUUAUGAAAUUCAAGCCAUAUAUUGUAUGUUUCAUACAUAAAAAUUUCAUGGGAGGUCCAAAAGUAAUUAAAUGACUUAUAGGCUUGCUGAAUUUCAUCUUUUGAAUAGGUGGUAUUAGGUCCAAAAGUAAUUUAACAUUCACAAAAUAAUCUCUAAAUACUGUAAAGACAAAUCAAAUCCACAGCAGCAUUAGAGUCGAUCAAGCUAAGCAUUGGCAAAUAUUACUUUGAUUUUGCAUGCAAUAUUGGCAAAAUCCCCUCUUACAUUAGAAAAACAACACAAUCCAUUAAACAUUGAUAGCCCAAUACAAAUUUCAUCGAGAAAAAAGUUCCUUUGUUUUGUAGAACAUGAUAAUAAAGAUGUGGAGUUUCCUUUAGUUUUCCUUGAUCAACAACCACUUGCCAAAAACACAAUUAGAUUAGAUUAUGAAUGAUACUUUCAACUAUGACAAUAUUAAAUACCAAACACUCCAAAUAACUCUAAAUAACUGGAAAGCAGCAAAUUACCUGACGAGGCAAGCUAGCUCAAUUAAGACCAUUGUGUUAUACUUGUCUCUAAAUUGAAAAAUUUAGAAGACAAUAAAGAGAAAGAGUUAGCAAAUACUUGAAAACCGAUAAAACUUAUAUGUCAUUGAUUGGAUAAACUACGAUCACCCAUAAUAGCCUUUAUCUUGCAACCAUCUACAUGAACCUAUAGGGCUCUUAGCGGAAUCAAGAGACAAAACCUUAACAUGAGAAAAAUACCAUUUGUUGAGGGCUUUGUUAAUAGGGUCGUACCUAGGAGAGUUGGCAGGGGUCCCAACCCCCCUUAAAAUUAAAAAGUUUCCAUUUAGGCCCUUUAAAAUUUUUAAAAUUUUAAAUUAAUAAACGUAAAAUUGUACUUUGACCCCCCCAAAAAUGAUAAAACUUUGAUUUAAUCCUUUAAAAAAUAUAAAAAUAUAGGCUAUUAAAACGGUGAAAUUGCGUUUUUACCAUCGUAAAAAUUACAAUUUAGUUUCAACCCCUAAAAAGAUUUUCUGGCUUCGCCCCUAAUAAAACCUUUGGCAAAAGAUGAAAAUAAAUUUAUAUCGUAAAUAAAAAAAGAAACUAUGAAAAUCCAAUCUAACAAAGAAAAUAACUUGAUGUCGAAAUUUAAUGCAUUUUAUUGGUUUCCAUUUUGGUUUUGAAGAGAGCCUAGUACGUGAAAGCAAAAGAAAAAAAAUGGUUUAUUAAUUUUUACGAAUACCGACAUAUUAUAUAUAUGAUUAAAAUUCCAGAAUAACCACAAGUGUGAAUUAAAGAUAAAAUUAAGUGUGAAUUAAUAAUUAGAAGUGUACUCAUUACUCACCAUCUCUGUUAAAAAUGUUGGAUGUUGUUUAGCAACCUUUGUUUGAUUUUCUUCAGCUCAACCACAACAUCUUUCAUAUCUUUUCUUUCUUCUGGUAACUCAGCUGAACAAUUCAAAGCCAACUCCAUGAUAGAUGUAAUACAAUUUGCUUUAACAACAAUGUACUCAUCCUCUCUUUUUAAUAAAUCAACAUCUGCAAUUUCUAUCGCUCCUUUAGGCAAUGAACUUUCCAUCCAAUGCCUUAUAGUCUCUUCUUCAACAAAAACAUUAUCAGUCGGCUUUUUCUUUGUGAAAGUUUCUAUAAGGACGAUCCCAUAACUAUAGACGUCAGAUUUUAUAGAAACAAUUCCUGCUGUUCCAAAUUCUGCAUUUCAAGUAUAAUUAGAACAUCAUUCACCCUCAAUUAUUUCUAAAAUGCUUAUUCAAAUAUAUAUCCACAUACAUAUGAAACAAAAAUAUAAAAUGCAAAUUAGGAAAAUAAUCGUACAAAAAUAAAAAAAGAAUUCACCUGGUGCCAUAUACCCGGUAGUUGCAAGAGUCAUGGUUUGCUUCAUUACUUCACCCUCUCCCAACAAUUUGGCAACGCCAAAAUCUCCAACAUGUGCAACCAUGUCUUCAUCUAGUAAAAUAUUGCUUGGUUUUAUGUCACAAUGAAUUAUAGGUGUUGGAUGUCCAUUGUGGAGGUGUUCUAUAGCUACCGCAACAUCUAUCAUUAUGUCGACCCUUUGUAUGAUAUCAAGGAAACAAUUUUCAGAAUGUAACCAUUUCUCAAGGUUUCCAUUAGACAUGUAAUCUAGCACCAAGGCUUUGAAGUCAACACUUGAACAACAGGUAAUGACCUUCACAAUAUUACGAUGAACUAUAUUACGCAUAGCAUCACAUUCAAUGUCAAAACUCCUAAAUGCUCCCUCUGUUUGCAAAUUGAAAACUUUUAUUGCAACUUCCAUUCCAUCUGAAAGCCUCCCUUUAUAUACACAUCCAAAACUCCCUGAACCGAGCAUAUUGCUUUCCUCAAAUCCAUUAGUUGCUCGGGAAAGUUCAGCAUGUGAAAUUCUUCUCGGUGUUUUCAAAGACAACAAAUCAUCUUUAAUUGGUAGAGUUGCACUCCUCCUUUGGCAUCUUCUAUACAUAAUAGUUAAGACUAUUAGUACUACGACAGUACCAACUGUUGGUAAACCAUACCUGAAAGCAUGCAGUAUAAUCAUUUGGGAGUUUUUGUGGAUGUCGUUUUUGCAAGGUGGGACUAGCAACCUAGGUGGACCACAAAGUGCAUAAUUCUUCAUGAAUGAUGUGCUAGAAAAGUUUGAAAAACAUCCUUUGCUGGGAAUUUCCCCUUGAAGUCUAUUGAAAGACACAUUAAAAUACUUUAGAUAUAAAAGCUUUUCCAAAGAUUUGGGAAUGACUCCGGAGAGAUUGUUAUUGCAUAAAUCCAAGAAUUCCAAACUAAUCAACCCAUCAAAUGAUUCAGGGAUAUGACCAUGUAGUAUAUUAUUUGAUAAAUCUAAUGAAACCAAAGUUUGAAGAACCCCAAAUGUGGAUAAGAUAUCGCCCGUGAGAAGAUUCCUUGAUAAAUUUAGUUUCAGUAGAGUCCUCAAAUGUCCAACAUCAAUAGCAUGUGAAUAGAGAUGGUUUGAUGAUAAAUCUAUUUCUAAGAUAUCUUUAAGAUUCCACAAAUUUGAAGGUAUUGCGGAACUCAAUUUGUUGGAAUUUAAGUAAAGAUAUCCCAAAGAAGUAAUAUUACCCAAACAAGAGGGUAUGGGUCCAUGCAGCUUAUUCAACCCUAAAUUCAAGUUGUAUAGUCUCUCCAAACCACAGAGGCUUUCUGAGAUAGGCCCUCCUAAUUUAUUAGAGGAAAGAAAUAGACCUUGGAGAUUUCUCAUUCCUCCUAUUGAUGCUGGAAUCAAUCCACUUAAUUUAUUAUAGCCAAGUUGUAAAAGCAAAAGGUUGGUUAAGUUACCUAUUUCCAUAGGAAUAAUGCCUUGAAGCUCACAAUUAUGGGCAUUAAAGUAUUGAAGGGAUUUUGAAAGGUUCCCGAUAUAAGUAGGAAGAACGCCACUCAAUGGAUUUCCUGAAACCUCUAUUUUUCUCAAAUGCCUGCAAUUCGACAAAGAAGAAAGAAAGCUCCACUCAUGAUCAGUAGCAGAUCCUGUGAUGAAAUUAUUGUUUACGAUUCGGAACCGUUCAAGGUGUCUUAAGUUGCCAAGUGUUUUAGGGACUGGACCAGAGAAUAAGUUAUGUGACAACACUAGUUUCUUAAGCAUGGAAGCAUUUGAGAUAGAGUUGGGAAUGUUUCCGCUAAGUUUGUUUCCCCACAAAAAAAGAAUCUCAAGCUUUGGAGCACUGGUGAUGGGUGGUAAAUUACCUGUAAAAUAGCAUCUUUUAGUAUACAUAUUCAUUGAAUACCAAAUUCACAAAAUAUAUAAUACAUUAAAAUAAAAACUGUAAAACUUUAAAUCAAUUAAGAAUAAAAUUUUGGUAUGGAAAAAUGUGAUGAAAUCAAUUAGAAAGUUGAGACAUAAUAAGAAGUUUUGAGUAGUAAUUAAUCCUUGUGAUUUCUAUAGACAAAACAUAUAAAACACUAAUAAUUUUUUAAAAUAUUGUAAAACUUGAAAUAAAAUAAAAAUAAAAGUUUGGCAUGAGAAUGUGGCAUCUAAUCAAUCUUAAAAAUGAGACUGACACUGAAUAAUAAUUAGUUAUGAUUUGGGAAACAAAAAUGUUAAAGUCAUUGUUUUUAAUACUGGUAUGAUUUUGACCUAUUAGGUUAAUUAUUUAUUUUUAUUAAAUUAUAGUGUAAAAUUUAAAGAUUAUUAUUUGCUCAAAAUUUUUGUGUUUUUCGUAUAUUUGAAAGUUAAUCUUUAUAUUUUUUAUUUUUUGUGAUUUAGUCUCUCUACUUUUUGAAUUAAAAAUUUUAGGUUCAUUUAUUAACACUGGUAAAAAAGUUUUUGUGUUAGUAUGGCAUUUUGAAAAAUAAAAUAAACUUGAUAUCUAUGUUUUUAAUUAUUCCAAAUAUUGUUUUACUAUUUCAAGAUAAAUUAUUUGUGUCUAGACCAAUAUCUUAAGAACUAUUGUUGCAUGUUUAAUUAUUCUAAAGAAUUGUUGAUUGAGUCUUAGUUGAAGUGCACUAUUCUCCUAUUUAUGAAUUGGGGAGUUGGUAAAGUAUUAAAUUUUGAUAUAUUUUAAAAUAUUAAAAAUUUAUUAAAAUAUUUUUUUAUAGAAAUUGAUUGUACCACAAUAUACAAUUUUAAUAUCAAAUUUUUAAUUUUUUUUAAAAUAUUAGCGAAUAUAUACUUUCUUUCAAGUUACACAAUUUUUACUAGUUUUUAAAUUUUUUAAAAAAAUUUUAUCGUCUUUUAUAAUUUCUAAUAUUUUUUUAUAAUUUUUUACAAUAUUUACAAUUUCUAACCAUUUUUAAUAAUUUUAUUAUUUAUUACAAAUUUAAAAAUUAACAAAUUUUUAUUUUUUAAAACAAUUAUAUAUUUAUAAUGUAGUUAUUUUUUUUAUAAUUUUAUUUGAAAUUUUAAAGAUUUUUUUGGUUUUUUUAGAUGAUGAUGCCAUCAUGAUGUCAUCAUAUGUCACAUGGCAAUUUAUAAUUAGUUGAAUAUCUCAAUCUAUUUUUUUAACGUCCAAUGGACUAAAACAAGAACACCUGAUAAUGUUAGAGACUACACUAGGAAUGUUUGAUAAUAUUAGGUACUAAAGUGGGCAAAAAAAAUUAAGGACUAUAUUAAAAAUAUAUCUAUAAUAUAUAUAAAUGCAUGGAUUUUGAGAAACUUUUGAAAUGAUAAUUAUAUAGUCUUUGUUUUUUUUUCUAUAUUAUUGAAUUUUUUAUUUUAAAUAUUUUUUUAUUACUUUUAAGAUUUAUCAUAUGCAUGGAUAAGAAUUUUGGUUUUACUAAAAUAUUUGGUUAAAUAAAUUCACUUCAUAAGAAAAUUUAGGAUCCUUAUAAAUAACAAUUUUGAUUCUAUUAAAAAUAUUAUUUUAAAAAAUAUAUAAUAAAAAUUUAAAAUUUAUAUUGAAUUACUUUAUACUUAAAUUAUUAUUAGAAACUUUAUCAUACACAUACAUAUAUGAGAAGCACGUAUUUAGAACAUAAAUUUGUGUUUUAAAAUAACUUAUGAUAAAUAAUGAAAUGUAUAAUUUGAAACUAUUUAAUAAUAACACAUGGCAUAUCUACCAUAUUAAAAUAAAAAUAGAUUAAAUUGUAGGUAAAACAUAAUUUAAACAUAUGAAUACAUCAAAUUAAUAAUACUAAAUGAAUACAGUUAUUUAUGAUGAUGUUGUUGCCAAUUCUUAACUUGGUGUCGAGUUAAUUUGUGACAUCAUAAAUUUAAGUGGUAAAUUUAAGGUUUUAUGUAUUGAUGUGGAUUCAAAUAUCACCAUAAUUUUUUUUUUAAAAAUAAAAAACUAAAGUACCCUCAAACAAUAUAACUUAUAUUAAAUAUGAAAGGGUAUUUUUAUAAUUUCUUUAACCGAGUUGAUGCCCGGUUGACUCAUGACACCAACUCAAUCAAAAGCUUCAAUAAUAAUAUAGAUAUUCACGUUAAAAAAACCAAAAAAAGUACUUUAGUUCCAAAUAAUUAUAUAAUAAGUAAAUUUAUAAUUGAUGAAUAAAUUUAUAAAUAAUAUAUUUAUAUGAUCUAAUAUAUUAUAUAUAUUAAUUAUAUAUCAUCUACAAACUUUGAAGAUCAAUUUAUUAAGUAUCAAGAAAAGAAAAAAUGAAAUUGAAUUAACACUAAAUCGAUUUUUAGAUUUUGUCCAGAUGAUUUAAUGAUGAUAAAAAAAUUAUUAGCACUAUUUUUGAAUUAACAAAAAAUUAGUGAUAUAUUUUAAUUAUAUUUAUUAUUUAUUAGUUUUAAUAAUGUUUUUUUAAUUAUAUGAAGUAAAAUUUUAUCGUAUACUAAAUAUGGUACAUAUACUUUAAUUAUAACUUGAAAAAUUAUUAUAUAAAUUAAUAUAUUUUAAUUAUAUUCAACCAUUUGAAUAACAAAAUUAAAAAAAAAACUAAUUAGAAUUAUUUACUUUUUAAAGUUUAAUGGAAAUUAAAAAAUUAAAAAUAAAUCAAUUCAUAUAAAUCUUAUUGUUUAUUAUCAGAUUAAUAUGAUAAAAGUAUAUGACAUAAAUAGAAGAAAUAAAUUCAACACAAUGUUUUGAUGAAAUUUCAAAAUAAAUGUCAAGUAUUCUUCUUUUAGAAAUACGUAAAAAGAAGCGAAUUUUCAAAAUUUCUCCUAAAUUUUCUUCAGAUUACUCUACAUAAUCCAUUAAAAAAACUUAAAAAAUAUAUUUUAUUAAUUACUAUAUAUUCUUUUAUUUUCAGAAUAAUAAAUUGUUUAAAAUAUGCUAUUAGUCCCUGUAAUUUAAAAGUUAAAAAAAAAAUCCAAUCCUCCUAUUUUUUUAAUUUAAAAAUUCUAGUCCAAUCAUUUUUAAUUCCAUUAAAAAAUUUCAACUUAAUAGAUUUUUUAUUAUCAAUCAUAUGCAACAUUAUAUGAAGGCAGUCUACUCAGUAUAUAUCCAAGUUUACAGAUUUUAAUAGAAAAUACUUACAAUCCUAAUGAUAGGACUAAGUUUUUUAAACUAGAAAAGUAAAAAAAACUUAAAUUUUAACUUUUUUAAGUACAAGGAUUAAAUUUUAAAUGUUGUCAAAGUACAAGCACUAACAAAAUAUUGUGAUCUAAUAAAUGUAAAAAGCAUUUUAAACAAAAGAAGGUUGAAAUAAUCUAUUUGUCCUUAUACUUUGAUAAAAUUUGAGAUACCAUAAAAUUUGUAUCUUUUUUCGAAUUAUUUAAUGCCAUUUCAACAUUUUCAUUCAGAAAAAAAAAACAUAUCAUUUGCAUUUGAUCUUUUUCAAGAUGAAAAUAUUGAAAUGAUGUUAAAUUAUUGGAAAGAGAUACAAGUUUCAUGCUAUCCCAAAUUCAUUUAAUCUUAUCUCUCUAAGAAAGCUGAUGUAAGAUAUUAAUGACAUCAUUUGAACAAAGUUUUAGGUCAAAUUAUUCAUCUAGUCCUUGUAAUUAUUCUUUAAGGUGAAUUUCAUUAUUAUUCUUUUAUUUUCUUUGGCUUAAAUACACAUUUACCCCUAAUUUUAUCACAUUCUCCUUAAUUGGUAUUUAUAGUUUAGAAAAUUUUACAAAUAUAUUAUUUUUUAAGAAAUUAUAAGAAGAUUACAAAAAUUCCAAAAUAAUAUAAAAACGCUAAGAAAAACCUAGAAAUUCAAAAAAAAAAAUCAUGUUUUUACAAAUUGGGGUAUGCAAUCAAUUUUAAGAUGGUUUUUGGAGUUACAUCUCACUUUAGCAUUGACUUACUUUUCUACAGUUAGUCUUCUCCAACAAGUUAAAUAUUUCAAUUUUAACAACAUUGACAGGUCUUUGGGGUAGGGUCGAGCAAAACUCAAUAGAAAUAGAUGAUAUAGGUUGAGUUGGCUCGGCCAAGUCGAGUCGACUUCUUCAAAUUUGUUAAAUUAGUAAAUUUUAGGGUGCAGUUAGAAUUUUUUGUUUUGAGAUGCUAAGAUUAAAAAAAUUUGAGUUUUGAAAACUUUGACUCCUUUUUGCUUUGAGAGUUGAUUUGAAGAGAAAAGAGCUUGAAGGUGCUUUUGUAGAAAUAGGACAAAUUUUAAAAUAAGGAGUAAAUUGGAAAAAAAAAUUUGGGUUGGGCUAAUUUGAAAAUUUGACACUUUUGUGGGAUAAAAAUAGAAAAAUAUUUUGGUUGAAUACACAUAAUGAGUUACGAACUUGAGACUUAUAGGUAGACUAAGGCCUUACCACUUAACCAACAAGCUCAUUAUUAUUAUCUUUUAACACAAAUAAAUUUUAAGGCAUACUAAGGGCUUGUUUAGCAUUGCUGUGAAGAAGCAGUUUUGGCUUAAAAAACACUUUUGAGAGAAAAGUGGUUCUAAGCUAGUAACUUUUGGCUAAGAUUUUGGCUUUUCAAAAGCACUUUUGGCCAAAUGGAGAAGCUAAAAUUAUUAGCUUUUCUUACCCAAAAGCACUUUUGAGUACUUAAUUACUAAUUCAUCCCUCGAAAAACACAUUUUAAAAUAAAAUAAUACAAAUAUGUUAAUAUUUAAUUACAAAUAUUUAAUGGGUAUAUUUAAAUAUUUAAAAUAUAAUUUAUAUAUUCUAAUUAAAUUUUAUAAAUAAUUAAUAUUUGUUGCUUAAAAAUAUUUAAAAUUUAUAUUUUAUAUAUUAAAAUAUUAAAAAAUAUAUAAUAAAUUAUUUUUUAUAUUCUUACUAAAAUAUCAUAAUAUUAAAUAAUUUUAAUAUUAUUUAAAUGCAUAUUUGUUGCUUUAUAAUAUCAUGUCUAAUAUUGACGUUUUAUUUCUUAAAAGCACUUUUUAACAUUAAUAUUAAACACUUAAAUCUUAAACUAAACUUCUCAAAGAUAGUUUUCUACAACACUUUUUAAAAGCAGUUUCCAAAAUCAAUGCUCAACUAUUUCAAACUCUCUUACCUUAUACUUUAAAAGAGAAAAAAAAAUUUAAAUUUUAUCCCUAUUUCUUUUAACCCAAUUUUUAGGAUGUCAAACAUUUAUAAAUAAAAUAAAAAAAGGAAAAGAAAAAAAAAAGCAUAUACAUAUUGAUGGGUUUUUUUUAUUAUUAGACUUUAUUUUUAUCUCAGGUAAAAGUUUUUAUGGAGAGGAUCGUGUAAAAUUAUGAUUUGAAUCAUUUUAAACAUUUCAUCAUUGCAAAAAUGAAAUAAUAGGAAAGAAUGACUAUACAAAUUUGCAUUUGUGUUCUUUCUUUCAAUAUUUGCUUUCAAAACUGUGGGAAAAUUUUAAAUUUGAUGAAAUUUUAAAAUUGCACUUCAGACGUAAAAUAUAAAUUUUAUGAAUUUGGACUACCCAUUUUAUUUAUAAUUUUCUGUGUUUUUGUUCUUUGCUGACUUUUUUAAUGUCAUUUUCUAUCAUGAAAGAAAAUUAAAGAUUCACUAUUUAUUUCUCAACCACUAUGAAAUUACUUGACUAUGGGGGUAGAAUUUUCUCACCAAUUUUCUAACAUGAGAUUUUUUGAAUGAGACAAAUAUUCAAUUUUAACACAUUUCCCAUAAUUAGUUACCCCUAUUUGUGAGUGAUUUGGGGAUAAAAGCUUAAACAUUUCUGGAUCACAUUGCAUUUAAGACGGGUGUUUGGAGUUAUAUGAUAUUUUAACAUAUAAAGAGUCCUUGCUUUACUUUGGGUGGAUUCUUCCAAUUAGCGUGGUCGUUGGUAUUACUCUCCAACAAUUAUUGUACCGUCAUCGUUAUUCCUACUCCACCUAGCAGAGAAGUUUCAUAAGUGUUCUAUUUCAAGGGAUUAAUAUUAGCUCUCAUUUUUUUAAAUUCUGAAAUUUUUUUAGCAACUGCGUAAUUAACAAUGUAUCAUUUUUGAGUGCUAUAGAGGUGUUUUAAUCUUCCCUAUAUGUAAUUGAUUCCUAAACCUUUUUUUUUUAGAAUUCAACGCAUACCUCAAAUUUGUCUUUUUAAAAGAUUUUUAAAAUCUUUUUAUAAAAGAUGAUCACACUUAACAAAAAUGAUCAUGGACGACUUUUCUUUAAUAAAAUAUUAUGUUUUUGCAAAGACCAAAAUUUUCAUAUUUUUCAAGAAUUCCUCAAUCUAAUUUUCUUUUUGAAAUUUUAUUUUCAAGAGGAAAAUGAUCCCUACAAUUAAUAUUUAUUUUCCUUAUUUUUAAUUUCUUUUUAAGGGAGAUGAAUAGUGGAAUGAUAAUUUUUAGUUAAGGUAAAGUAUAUUUAAUUAUCCACAACCUUCAACUAUUAAUUUUUUCGAUUUAAUUACACAAUUUUUUGAAAUUAACACUCUUUUAUUAGUUGUCGCUAGUUGAGGGACCAAAAGUUGAUUUGGACUUUUUUAUUGACCUAAUAACAAAUUUAGAUAUUCAAAGUUUACUUAUUCUAUCAAUUUAAUGCUAAAUUUAAAAAAUUCAACAAAUGCUAUCAAAAAACAAUUGGACCUUGAGUACACAGGCUGUGAGAUUUUCACAUGGCUGUGUCUACGCUGCACUCUAUUUUAUCAAAUUCGGAUAGAGAGUUACAUAGGCAGUUCACACGGGCGUGUGCCUCCUUCACAUGGGGCGUGUAGACCUCCACACAGCUUAGGAACUUCCACAUGGCUGGGGCAUGGUCAUGUGGCCUUGUUUUGUAGAUUUUUGUUCUGUGUCAGAUUUUGACUCGUUUUGUGCCUCUGCGAUUUUUGACUCUAGUUAAGACUUGGUAAGAAUGUUUAGGACUCUGAUUAGUUCGAAUUUGUGCAUUUGUUCGUAACUAAUGUGUUAAUUUAUUAGUUUAAAAAUUUCACAUUAAACUAAUAAUAUUAGCAAUUAACUUUCAACAAAUCUGUAAAACCCCAAAUCCAGCCUAGACACUAUGGUCAAAUCUAAAAGGUUACAUCAGUACGUAGAAAAUUUUGUUCUUCUAAAUGUGUUUUGUAACGAAAUUGAAAACCAAAAUUUAUGUAAGUUAGUCAUGAUUCCUCAAUAGAAAAAUCUGUAAAUUAUCAAAACAUAAAUGUGAACAUAUUAAUUAUUAACUUAAAAAGAACCCAGCCUUAUACAAUCAAAAUGCUAAAAUCAUUUGCCUUGUGAAACUUGUAAUUUCACUAAAAUUUUUUCAGCAAAAACAUUUUAUUUAGCCUAUUGAGCAUAUUUUUAAAUUUACGUUAUUAACUUUCGUAAAAUCUCAAUUCGUAUUUUUGUGGCGGAAAAUUUUAUAAUUUUGAAAACCCAGCAUUGAUUGUUGGUUAACACAAAUCAUGCAGAAAAAAAAAACUUUAACUAAGCCAAAGAAAUCCAAAGCCAAAUUAAAUCGGAGAAAUUCAACCAAAAGCCAAAAGUCCAGUAAAUCAAUUUACUAACCAGAGCAAACAUUUAAUGAAAGAAUCAAUCCGAGCGCCCGCAAAUUUUAACUUACCGAUUACCUGAAACAUCAUAAAUAAAACAAAGGGGAGAGCUAUAAAGCUCAGUGCAUAACUAUAACUCAAGCUGAGAUCACACACAAUACAAUAUACAAAUCAUAAAAUCAUAGAAAAAUUCAUAAUAAUCAGUCAAAUAGAAUUGAGUAUACAUGAUUAUGCCAAUACGGUAUUUUUCAGAAAAUCUUAAUGCAGAUUUUUCAGAAAACGUCCUAGCCAAAUCCUGUACACACUUGAAUAGAGUUCUCUAGAACUUAUCCAUAAAAAAAAAACACACCAAUUAAGUCAUCCCAGGUUGCCCAAGAACGAUGACUCGCCACCAUGGGAUGCCCGACAACGAUGGCUUAUCAAUAUGCAAUUAAACUGUUAGAUCAGAUAUUUGUGUUCAAGCCAUUGAAUUGCAACUCAGCUACCGAAACAAAAAUAUGUGGUGAAGCCACUAUAUUGCAUCCAAGCUACCAAAUAAAAAUAUGUGGAUAAACCAUCAGAUAGUGCAGACCAUUAAACUACCAAAACUUCUUCCCUUCCAUAUUAUCCCAAUCCCAUGCAAUGUGACAUGGCAUGCAUUUACAUAAUCAAAACGACAAGCAUGUAAGGCAUGUAGUCGUACCGUAAUAGAAUUUAGAAAGCAUGGCAUUCCACACUUUUACAGAACAGAUGUAUCACAAAUUCAACAUAAGCAAGUUGGUAUGCUAUAAAGUCACAUGCAUGAUCACAUAGCAGAAUCAGAAACAUAAAAAUAACGUAACCAAACCUCAUAUAAUCAUAUACAAACAUAACAAUACAAAUCAUGCUACCAGAUUCAUUAGAAAACAGUUCAUGCACACGAAUUUCACAUACCUUAUUCAUAUCACCUACAAUAUCAAAUUAUCAGAUAUUACAUUUUCAAAGUCAAUUUUACACAGUACGAACCCUACAAAGUGGCUAAACAUGAUUCAUGAAUCAAAAUGGGCCUAAACGAAAUUUUUAGAAAAUGGGCCAACAGUCCAAUUUUUUAUUUUCAACAGUUCAUUAUUUUUUGAGUUUUUUGAUAUACACCUUACUAUUUUUCGAAGCAAAAUCAUGGCAAGAAUUCCAAAACCUAAAAUCCAUAUUCAACCCACUCAAAUUAGCAAUGAAACCCAAAACUAAAUCAUUAGACAACCAAAAUAGCUACCAAUAAACCUUAUCAAACCAGGAAUCAACCUUUUGGAAUCUGACUACUAACCCAGAAUAGUAGCAGCAGUACUAAAAAUCUCUCAAUUCACCAGAAGACUAUUUGUUACAGAAACGUCACCUAAACCAAAGAUUUCAGAGUAAUCAAAAUCGCGUCACACAAAGAAGGAAACAAAUUAACCCUAAAAUCGUGAAACUCAACAAAGUACGAAUCUUUUCACAUAUUCCUUACCACCAACUGUCAAGAUUGCUCAAAAACCACUAAUGACACCGACCUUCGCAAGGUUAAACUGAAACUAAAAGGUAACUAAUGAUGGAACAAAGGUUGUUAUAAAAAAAAUAUUAACAAAGACUUAUUGGAGCAAAAAUGGCAAAAAAUCAAGAAUAAGGAGAUUGGGAAAAAAAAAACAAUGAAUCGACAAAGAGGAGUGGGAAAGUGAUGACAGUUUGUGGAGAGAUUUUGGGUAACUAAAAAGUAACUCACCACUCAACCCAUUAAAUUUGGUUACCCUCUAAACAGAUUCCCUUAGAGUUUAAAUUCAACCCAAAUACCACUACAUGUGCGGCAUAGUGCAAGGAAAUAAAAAUAUUUCUACUUUGCACACACGGGGUCUUGAACACGAAAUCUUAGGGUAAUUUGAUGCCUUACCACUAAAUUAGUAGGCUUAUCCUUGAAAUUAAUUGAACGAAAAUAUUAUUUAUGUCAGAUGAUCAGGGAUAGAGGUUAAGACCAAAGAUGACAAAAAUUCAAAGGAAAGAUUUAAACCUAGAACCUCACACACACAAGCAUAACACCUAUCCAUUGAACCAGAUUUACUCCAUUGACAUAAUUUUCACAAUAUUAACUAAAAAUUCAGAAUAUGGUCACUCUUGGUUUCACUUACCCAAUUUCUUCUAACCCGAUUUUUGUGAUGUGAUAACUCUUCCCUCCUUAAAAGAAUUUCAUCCUCGAAAUUCCUGCUGCGGCACCAUACACUUAACCACAAAAUCUAAAAUUCCCUAGUCCAAAUCGACCACCAGGCUAUCAUUGUACAACUCUAAUCUCCAUUCAAGUUCGAUCUAGAUAAUAUUUUAGAGGAAUUUCCUAUUCACUACCUCGGAUUAUCUCAGUAAGCUUUCUAAUGAUCUUUUACCCCAGACUCUAAAAAACAUCAUUUACCACAAAAUACAGGUACAAACAAUUCUUAUCAAUGCACAGUACAUUUGGAACAUAUCAUAAAAGUACCUGUAUCAUUGUCAGAUGCAUCACGGCUCGCUUGAUACCUAGUUGCAUAUCCCUAUCUCAAAUUUUGUUUCUAUGCCGAAGCUUGUACCUGACUAAAAUAGUGUCGUGAGCAAUCCUAAACUCGAUGCUCAACGGACCCACAUCUGAAACACGCUCCCAUUUUCCUCCAACAAUCGUCUGAAUGGUGCCUAUCAUAGUAAGUACAAAUCAGAACCUCAACUGCAUUCACAAUUGCCCUACCCCGCUGAAGCCUGUCUAUUUUAGCCUGUUUCCUUGGUCAUGGAUUCAAGUCAAUAGAACCAUCACUCAUCUUAUUUCGCACUUUAUUCAUUACUUAUUCUUUCCCUCCGAGCAAUUACUCUCUACGGCUAACUUGACUUGAUACGCUUGAGGUCACUCAAUCACAGACUCUUGUCCCAUAUAUCCAAAUUGGGUUCCAUUGACCCUUUGCAAAUCUCUAAACACCUCUUGGAACACUGAAACAUCCCCUACUUCUAAACUGCCCUCAGAUUUGGGCAUCAUAGCAAACUUAUUUAUUUCAAAUUGGGCUUACUGCCCCAAGAAGAGAACUCAGCUCGAGUCACCCGACUAUGUCCACCACGCCCUCGCACAUCAUGAACUCGAGUACUCAUUAUACUAAUCUCCAGUUUGAGAAAUUUUAUGAAUUAGCUUAGGUUUAUUAAAAAUCAUAAGUCUAGAGUUUUAUCAAAGUUUCUUACAUAAUUACCAUAGUCUUUAGCUAGAGUAGAGUAAUCCUAGCACUUAAGUUUUGCUAGUUUGUCUAGUAUAGCUAAAGUAAAGAUACUUACAGGAUCAACGAUGUAGUUUUGGAUUCUCUUUUUAUAGAAUCAAAUAUAAAAAUAAUCAAAAUCUAAAUACCCAUUUUAGAAACCCAAGGUAUCAAAAUUAAUUAGAAAUUCAAUUUAUUUAAAGCAUAUUUAAUGGAGAUUUUCGAACCCAGAAAUCACAGCCCGAGUUUUGUUACCUUGCUCUAAUACUACUAAAUGUAACACCCCAAACUUGGCCUAGACGUUAUGGCCAAAUCUGAAAGGUUACAUCAGUACCAAAAAAAUUAUUUUUCUAAAGUGUGUUUUGUUACGAAAUUGAAGACCAAAGUUUAUGUAAGUCCGUCAUGAUUCCCCGAUAGGGAAAUUUGUAAAUUAUCAAAACGUAAAUGUGAACAUAUUAAUUAUUAACUUAAAAAAACCCUAGCCUUAUACAAUCAAGAUGCUAAAAUCAUUUGCUUUGUAAAACUUGUAAUUUUGACUAAAAUUUUUGCAACGAAAAUUCCAAACUAAUAUUUGUAAAUUGUAAUUUCGUCAAGUAAAAACGUUUUAUUUAGCUGAUUGGGCAUAUUUUAAAUUUAUGUUAUUAAAUUUUGUAAAAUCUCAAUUCGUAUUUUUGUGCUAAAAAAAUCUUAGCUCAUAUAAUUUUGAAAACGCAACAUUGAUUGUUGAGUAACACAAAACAUAUAGAACAAAAAACUUUAACUAAGCCAAAGAAACCCAAAGCAAAAUUAAAUUUGAGAAAUUAAACCAAAAUCCAAAAGUCCAGUAAAUCCAUUUAUUAACCAGAGUAAACCAUUUAAUUAGAGAAUCAAUUCGAGCUUCCGCACACAGCCCGAUUCUAACUUAUCGAUUAUCUGAAACAUCAGAAAUAAAACAAAUGGGUGAGCUAUAAAGCUUAGUGCAUAACUAAAACUAAAUCUGAGAUCACACACAAUACAUUAUACAAAUCAUAAAAUCAUAGGAAAUUUCAUAACAAUCAGUCAAACAGAAUUGAGCAUACAUGAUUAUUCCAAUGUGGUAGUUUUCAGAAAAUCAUAAUGCAAAUUUUUUCAGAAAGCAUCCUACCCAACACCACUAUACACCCGAAUAUAGUUCCCCAGAACUCGUCCAUCUAAAAACACACCAAUUAAGUCAUCUUGGGUUUCCCGAAAAUGAUGACCUACCACCUCGAGUUAGUCGGCACUAAUGACUUAUCAAUUUGCUGUUAAACUACGAAAUCAAAUAUUUGUGGUCAAGCGAUUGUAUUGCAGCUCAGCUGCCAGAUCAAAUGUUCCUAGUGUAGUCCCUAACAUUAUCAGGUGUUCUCGGCUCAGUCCUUUGGACAUUAAAAAAAAAAAGAUUUGGAUAUCCAAUUAAUCAUAAAUUGCCAGGUGGUAUAUGCUGAAGUCACGAUAACAUCAUCAUCAAGAAAAAAACCAAAAAAAUCUUUAAAAAAUAUCAUAAAAUUCAAAUAAACUUAUAUAAAAUUAACUACAUUAUAAAUAUAUAAUUGUUCAAAAAAAUAAAAAUUCUUAAUUUUUUUAAAGUUUGUAAAAAAUAAUAAAAUUAUUAGAAAUUGUUAAAUAUUGUAAAAACAUUAUAAAAAUUAUUAGAAUCAUAAAAGAUGGUAAAAAAUAAAAAGUUAAAAUACUAGUAAAAAUGGUCUAACUUAAAAUAAGGUAUACAUUUGGUAAUCAAAUUUAAAAUAUUGAAAAUUUGAUAUUAAAGUUGUAUAUAGUAAUACAACCAAUUUUUAUAAAAAAAUAUUUUAAAAUAUUUUAAUAAAAAUCGAAUAAAUUUUAUAUCAAUUUUUUAAUAUUUUAAUAUACAUCAAUUUUUAGUACUUUACCAACGUUACUGGCAGCAAGUUUUUUCGACUCGACUCCUUAUUUAUUGUCUUAAGUAGCUUCCUGCAUCCACCAUUUUGCACAUGGUUUUUUUCUAUUUUAUACCAAAGCUCUUUAGAAUAGUUAAACAUUUGACAAUAGUUCUUAAUAUAUUAGUUUAGAGACAAAUAAUUAUCUUGAGAUAGUAAAAAAAAUUGAAAUAAUUAAAUAUAUUAUUUACUUGAAAUAAUAUUAUUUUUCAUUAUUUAAAUUAUUUGAGAAAAAAACUUAUUCAAGUUUAUCACGUAAAAAGAUCUACCAAUUAUAAAUUCUGAUUAGUUGAACCAUAAGACAAUUGUUAUAGGUAGUAUCCUUCCAAGAGACAAUUAUCACAUGUUCAAACUCUAGUAAAUGUGAUUUAUAAAAUUUUAAAAAUAUUAAAAUAUCUAAUAUAUUUUUGAAAUUUAUGUAAAAUUUUAUAUUUUACAUAGUAUUUUUUUGUAUUUUUCUGAUUUUAGAUUUUUUCUAUUUUUAAAUAAUUUUGAUAAUUUUGUAAUUUUUCUUUUAUAAUUUUUGUCAUUUUUGAAUAUUUUUUAAGGGUUUUUGUUGAUGAUGUCAUUAUGAUAUCAUCAUACAACAUGUGGUAGUAUAUGAUUUGUUGAAUAUUCCAAUGAAUUUUUUAUUGUCCAAUGAACUAAACUGAAAAUUUUUAAUAACAUUAGGGGCUGAAGUGGAUAAAAAUAUUUUAAAAACGAAAUUUAAAAAAGUGAUAUACUUGCAUUAACAUUUUCUAAAAGAUGGAAGUGUUUUUGUUUUUUAAGGGAAUAGAAUUUUUUUGAGUGAAUAUAGAUUUGUGAGGGAGUAGUAAUAUUAUUAUUAGAGACAAGGCAUUUGAUUUUUAUAUAACUUUUUUAAUUAAGUCAAUAUCACUCAUUCGUAAAACCCAAAUAUUAAGCACAUUAUUAUACUAAUUUAGAUUAAUAGGAAUGCUCAAAUUUACAAUUAAGGAUUAUAAAUUUAUUUAAUUCCAAUCUUCUACCUUUUUUUAAGUUAUAAGAAUGGUUUUGCCUUAUAUUUUCUCCAAAUUGAGAUUUAAUUUAUAAUUUUAAUUUUGAUAUAAUUUAGUUUCUCAAUUUUUAUAAUACAAUUAAUUAGUUUAAAUACUUUAUUUUAAUCAAAAUGAUUAUAUUAAUUUUAAAGCAUUGUUUAUCACUAUUAAAAUUCUUUACUAACAAUUAUUUAAAAUUAAGGUCUAUUGCUUUUGUUUUAGCUUACAUAUAGAUGUUUACAAUAUAAAAUUCUUUGUAAUUUUCAAUACAUAUUGCUUAAAUAAAUAGAAAAAAGAGUUUUAAUAAUGCACAACCAAAUAAUUUUUAUUGAUGUUAUAUUAUUUUGAUUUCUUAGACUUGUAUAUAGGGGAAAUAAAGUACUAUUGCCAUUUAAUCACUUUAAAACAAUUUUAAUGGGCUCUAGUCAUGCAAGAUUACCAUUAAAUUGAAUACUCUUAUAGAAGGAUUUAAUAUUUUUGUUUCUCAAAUCACAACUAAUAAUUAUUCAUAAUUUCUUAUUCAGUGUCAUUUUUAAGAUUGAUUAGAUGACAAAUUUUCAUGCCAAAGUUUUAUUUUUAUUUGAUUUAAAGUUUUACAAUAUUUAAAAAAUUAUAUAUUUUGUAAAUUUGAUAUUCAAUCAAUUUUAGAUGAUUUUAACCCAAGGCCUGAGCUAAGAAUAGUUUUAGUUUGGAGUACAAUAUAUAUACUAAAAGAUGCAAUUUUUACAAAUAACUUACAAAUCUAUCAUUAAAUCAAAUACUGGUAUGAAAUGGUUUAAUUAUUUGAUCACAUUUUUCCAUGCCAAAAUUUUAUUUUUAUAUGAUUUAAAAUUUUACAAUUUUUAUAUUGUGAAUUUGGUGUGCAAUGAAUAUGUGUACUAAAAGAUGUAAUUUUACAGGUAAUUUAUCACCCAUCACCAGUGCUGCAAAGCUUGAGAUUCUUUUAUUGUGGGGAAAUAAACUUAGCGGAAACAUUCCCAACUCUAUCUCCAAUGCUUCCAUGCUUAAGAAACUAGACUUGGCACAUAACUUAUUCUCUGGCCCCAUCCCUAAAACGCUUGACAACUUAAGACACCUUGAAUGGUUCCAAAUUUCAAACAAUAAUUUGAUCAUAGGACCUGCUACUGAUCAUGAGUGGACCUUUCUUUCUUCUUUGGCAAAUUGCAAGCAUUUGAGAAUAAUAGAUGUUUCAAAAAAUCCAUUGUGUGACGUUCUUCCAACUUAUAUCGGAACCUUUCAAAAUCCCCUCAAUACUUUUAUGCCUCUAAUUGUGAGAUUACAGACAAUAUUCCUAUGUAAAUAGGUAGCUUAAGCAACCUAUUGUUUUGACAACUUGGCUAUAAUAAAUUAAGCGGAUUUAUUCCAACACCAAUAGGAGGACUGCGAAAUUUGCAAGGUUUACAACUUUCCUCUAAUAAAUUAGAGGGGCCUAUAUCAGAAAGCCUCAACACGAGAAUAAUACCAUCUUUUGAGAGUUCUGUCAACACAAUAAAUGAAAUUUAAAUGCAUACUUUUUUUAAUGAAAGUAAAUAUCAUAUUAAUUAAAGAAAAGCAACUAAAAAUCCAAUAAUAAAAUCCUUAGCAAAAGAUUGAAACACAAUUAUAUUGUAAAUGAAGUAAGAAACUAAGAAAAUCCAAUCUAAUAAAGAAAAUAACUUGAUGCCCCAAAGCAACCAUAAAACUAAAUCAUGGUAAGGCCUGCUGCUCGUUUUAUUGGUUUCCAUCUUUAUUUUGCAAAGGAAGUUUGAAUUUCGAAUAGAGCCUAGUACAUGGGAGCAAAAGAAAGAAAAUUAGUAUAUUAAUUUCCACGAUUUUUAAAACAAACUUCAUGGAAACGAAUAUUGACAUAUUAGAUAUCUAUGAUUAUAAUGCUAAAAUAGAUUAAAAUUAUUAAAUUAAUGGUAAAAUUAAGAGUGAAUUAAUAACCACAAGCGUACUCAUUACUCACCAUAUUUGUUAAACAUGUUGGAUGUUGUUUAGCAACCUUUGUUUGAUUUUCUUUAGCUCAACCACAACAUCUUUCAUGUAUUUUCUUUCUUCUGGUAACUCAGCUGAACAAUUCAGAGCCAACUCCAUGAUGGCUGAAAUACAAUUUGCUUUAACAACAAAGUACUCAUCCUCUUUUCUUAAUAAAUCAGCAUCUGCAAUUUCUAUUGCUCCUUUCGGCAAUGAACAUUCCAUCCAAUGCCUUAUAGUCACUUCUUCAGCAAAAAGAUUAUCAGUUGGCUUUUUCUUUGUGAAAGUUUCUAUAAGGAUGAUCCCAUAACUAUAUACAUCACAUUUAAUAGAAACAAUUCCAGUUGAUCCAAAUUCUGCAUUUCAAGUAUAAUUAGAGCAUCAUUAAUCCUUAAUUAUUUCUAAAAUGCUUAUUCAAAUAUAUAUCCACAGACGCAUGAAGCAAAAAUAUAAAAUGCAAAUCAAGAAAAUAAUCAUACAAAAAUAAAAAAAUUCACCUGGUGCCAUAUAUCCGAUAGUUGCAAGAGUCAUGGUUUGCUUCAUUACAUCACCUUCUCCCAACAAUUUGGCAAUGCCAAAAUCUCCUACAUGUGCAACCAUGUCUUCAUCCAGUAGAAUAUUGCUUGGUUUUAAGUCACAAUGAAUUAUAGGUGUUGGAUGUUCGUUGUGAAGAUGUUCUACUGCUGCCGCAACAUCUAUCAUUAUGUUGACCCUUUGUAUGAUAUCAAGGAAACAGUUAUUAGAAUGUAACCAUUUCUCAAGAUUUCCAUUACACAUGUAAUCAAACACCAAGGCUUUGAAGUCAACACUUGAGCAGCAAGUAAUGACCUUGACAAUAUUACGAUGAACUAUAUUACGCAUAGCAUCACAUUCAAUGUCAAAACUCCGAAAUGCUCCCUCUAUUUGCAAAUUGAAAACUUUUAUUGCAACUUCCAUUCCAUCUGAAAGCCUCCCUUUAUAUACAUAUCCAAAACUCCCAAAACCAAGCAUAUUACUUUCCUCAAACCCAUUAGUUGCUUGUGAAAGUUCAUAAUGUGAAAUUCUCCUCAGUGUUUUCAAAGACAACAAAUCAUCCUUAAUUGGUAGAGUUGUACCCCUACUUUGGCAUCUUCUGUACAUAAUAGUUAAGACUAUUAGUACUAUGACAAUACCAAUUGUUGGUAAACCAUACCUAAAAGCUUGCAAUAAAGUCAUUUUGGAAUUUUCGUGGAUGUCGUUUUUGCAAGGUGGGACUAGCAAUCUAGGUGGACCACAAAGUGCAUAAUUAUUCAUGAAUGAUGUGCUAGAAAAGUUUGAAAAACAUCCUUCGAUGGGAAUUUCCCCUUCAAGUCUAUUGAAAGACACAUUAAAAUACUUUAGAUAUAAAAGCUUUUCCAAAGACUUGGGAAUGACACCAGAGAGAUUGUUAUUGCAUAUAUCCAAGAAUUCCAAACUAAUCAAACCACCAAACGAUUCAGGGAUAUGACCAUGUAGUAUAUUAUUUGAUAAAUCCAAUGAAACCAAAGUUUUAAGACCCCCAAAUGUAGAUAAGAUAUCGCCCGUGAGAAUAUUCCUUGAUAAAUUUAGUUUCAGCAGACUUCUCAAAUCACCGACAUCAAGAGCAUGUGAAUUGUUAAGGUAAUUUGAUGAUAAAUCUACUUCUAAUAUAUCUUUAAGAUUCCACAGAGUCGAGGGUAUUGCAGAACUCAAUUUGUUGGAUUCUAUGUAAAGAUAUCUCAAAGAAGUAAUAUUACCCAAACAAGAGGGUAUGGAUCCAUACAACUUGUUCAACCCUAAAAACAAGUUGUAUAGUCUUUCCAAAUCACAAAGGCUUUUUGAGAUAGGCCCUUCUAAUUUAUUAGAGAAAAGACCCAGACCUUGGAGAUUUCUCAGUCCUCCUAUUGAUGUUGGAAUAAAUCCACUUAAUUUAUUAUAGCCAAGUUCAAAAACCAACAUGUUGCUUAAGUUACCUACUUCCAUUGGAAUAUUACCUUCAAGCUCACAAUGGUCAGCAUAAAAGCGUUGCAAGGAUGUCGAAAGGUUCCCAAUAUAAGUAGGAAGAACGCCACUCAGUGGAUUUCCUGAAACAACUAUUUUUCUCAAAUGCUUGCAAUUUGCCAAAGAAGAAAGAAAGGUCCACUCAUGAUCAGCAGGUCCUGUGAUCAAAUUAUUGUUCAUGAUUUGGAGCCGUUCAAGGUGUCUUAAGUUGCCAAGCGUUUUAGGGAUUGGGCCAGAGAAUAAGUUAUCUACCAAGUCUAGAAACUUAAGCAUGGAAACAUUGGAGAUUGAGUUGGGAAUGUUUCCGCUAAGUUUAUUUCCCCUCAAUAUAAGAUACUCAAGCUUUAGAGCAUUGGUCAUGGAUGGUAAAUUACCUGUAAAAUUACGUCUUUUAGUAUACAUAUUCAUUGAAUACCAAAUUCACAAAAUAUAUAAUACACUAAAAUACAUCUUUAAAAUAAAAAACUGUAAAACUUUAUAUCAAAUAAAAAUAAAAUUUUGGCAUGGAAAAAUGUGAUCAAAUCAAUUUUAACAAUGGCAUAUAAUAAGAAUUUUUGAGUAGUAAUUAGUCCAUUGUGAUUUGUAUAAAAAAAAAAUUAAACCAUUCCAUGCUUGUAAGUUGUAAAAAUUGCAUGUUAUAAUUUAUAAAUUCUGUACUCCAAACUAAAAAUGAACUCCUCACUAUUCUUAGCCCAAGUCUUGCAUUGAAAUCAUCAUUAUCAAAUUUACAAAAUAUAUAAUACACUAAUAAUUUUUUUAAAAUAUUGUAAAACUUUAAAUCAAAUAAAAAUAAAACUUUGGCAUGAGAAUGUGACAUCUAAUCAAUCUUGACACAGAAUAAGAAAUUAUGAAUAAUAAUUAAUUAUGAUUUGGAAAAUAAAAAUUUUAAAUCAUUCUGUAUGAGUAUUCGGUUUAAUGGUAAACUUGCAUCAAUACAAGUCUAAGAAAUCAAAAUAAUAUAACAUCAAUAAAAUUAUUUCAAAUAUAAUAUUGUUCUAAAGGUUAGAUGUUGGUUUAGCCCUUAAAGUUGUAUUUGAUUAUUAUUUUGGUACUUAAAAAUUUAUUUGUACCAAUUUGAUACUUAAAGUUGGAAUCAUUAAUCACGUGGUACAAAAAUUUUAUUAUGCAAAAUUAAAAAAAUUAAAAAUUUAGAAAGUUUUUCUAAUAAUGUAGGAAAUGUUUUUAAAAAUUAUAAAAUAAGAAAGAAAAUCGUACAUGAACAAAAAAAUGGACAUAGAAAAUACAAAAAUAUUGAAAAUUAUAAUAAUAUAAUUUUAAAAAUGAUUUUUAAAAAAAAAGAGAAAAUAGGACAAAAAAAUCAGAAAAACUUAAAAAGAAUCAACAAACCCUGGAGAAGGUGAGCUAUGGAAUUGAUAAGAUCAAUUAGAAAAUGGUUUCGAGCUUUCUGCUUAGUUAAAUCAAGUAAAUUAAAAUGCCAAAAAAGAGAAAGGAAAACCCCAAAGGUGGAAAUACGAUAUGAAGAUUAAAAGCGAAGGAAGUUUAAAGUCCAAGCUAUAUUCUAUAAGUUCCAAUUAAAAAUUUUGGUUUUAAAAUAUUUGUGUUAAUGUUACAUUUUGAAAAAUAAAAUAACCUUAAUAUCAAUGUAACCAAAAAAAAUUAUAACGGACCUAAAUUUAGUAAAUAAUUUUAACCGUGCUGACAACUCAUUAAAAUUCACAUUGUUAUUUUUUUAGAAUAAAUCAUUAAAUUAAUAAAAUACAUGUUAAGGGUUAAGAUGUUUGUUUCAAAUACAAUAUUGAUAUAAGGGUUAAAUGUAACAAAAAACAAUUAUAAUGAAUCUGAAUUCAAUGAAAAGAUUUAACGGUGCUAACAAUUCUUUAAAAUUCAUAUAUUCAUUUUGUUUUAAAUAAAAUAUUUUAGCGAAAUUAAACUUUUUUAUAAAAAAAUUUAAUACCUUCCAGAUUAUUUAACGCCAAAUAUAAUUCUUCGAGUUGUGUCAAAUUCCCGAUACUUCUUGGAAUGAUCCCCGUAAAUUUAUUAAUGGACAAUGACAAAAUUCUGAGGUUGUUGCAUUUGCCUAUACUUGAUGGAAUGUUACCAGAUAAUUCAUUCGAAUUCAUGGAAAGCCAUUCAAGCUGGGGAAGAUGUUGACACAUAUCAUUAGGCAAACUAUCUGAUAGGCUAGUGCUGGAGAGAUGAAUAGCUUGCAGAGAAGAAAUGUUGAAGAUAGAAGAUGGAAUCGGACCUGUAAGACCUUUAAUUGCUUGAACAUUAAGCAUUUCCAAACUAAGAAGAUUACCAAUUUCCUCCGGAAUUUGACCUGCAAAUUAACGUAGUUGAAAAAUCAAGGUGUUAAAGCUAACUAUUUUGUAAGUGUAAAUCAAAGAGGCUUUUUUUUUUGGUUAUGAAAUAAUAUGGAUUUGUUAGAUUCUAAUCAUAUUUAAGUAUAUUAGUUCAGCUAAUUAAGUAUUUUUCCUUGAAAGAAAUGUUUUUUUUUUUGUAUUUAUAUUACAAAUCUUUUUUUUUUAAUUUAAAAACAAAAGGGGCAAAAUGUGUUUAAGUUAAAUGCAUCAAGGAAAAUGCAUACCUUCUAGGUUAUUCACCCCCAAAUAUAAUUCUUUGAGUCGUGUCAGAUUUCCAAUACUUUUUGGAAUGAUACCCAUAAAUUGAUUACUGGACAACGCCAAAAUUUGAAGGUUGUUGCAUUUGCCUAUACUUGAUGGAAUGUUUCCAGAUAAUUCAUUCCGACUCAAGUAAAGCUCUUCAAGCUUGGGAAAAUGUUGACACAUAUCAUUAGGCAAACUACCUGAUAGACUAUUGCUGAAGAGAUUAAUUAUCUUUAGGGAAGAAAUCUUGAAGAUGGAAGAUGGAACUUGGCCAGAUAAUUGAUUGAAUCGCAAGUUCAAGAUCUCUAGAUUGAACAUGUUGACAAGUGUUUGAGGGAUUCUGCCUGUAAAAGUAUUAUUUGUCAUUUGCAACCUUUGAACUCUGUGUAAGUUCCCAAGCCAUGAUGGAAUUUCCCCAUUAAGACUGUUAAAGCUUAAUUGUAAGAUCUUCAAACGAUGCAAUUGACCCAAUUCUUUAGGUAGCAGGCCAUAGAAAUUGUUGCGACUCAAGUCGAGAGAGAGUAGAAAUGAAAGAUUUCCAAGGUAUGGAGGGAUCGUACCCCUAAGAUUCAUGCUUGUUAGAUUCAAAGCUAUAACUCUUUCAUGGAUGAUGCCACAAGAAACACCAAUCCACCUGCAAACAGAGGUAGAGGCCGUCCAAUUGUUUGCCAAGACAUUUUGAGGAUCGGCAAGGAGAUCCUUAAACUCGAGAAGUGCAAACUGAUCAGAGUUGAGAUUCCUGGCUGUCAUAGCCAAGCAAAGUACGGAACAUGAUAUGAAUAAAGCUAAACGAAGAUGAAAGCAAGUGUUGUAGUUCAUGAUUGGAAGACGAAAUAAGGCAAGAAAAUAAAAAAGUAGGAAAAGGGAAGUUGAAAUGAUAAAAUAGCCCAGAGAGCAUGCUUUAAUAUGUUUCAACCCUCGCAUACUUCUCCCACAUUAAAUUCACUCGGCGGGGGCCCGCGGGGGGCGGGGGGGGGGGUUACAACAUUAAUCCAGAUUUUACUUUUUGAUUGGUAUCAUAAGUCUGCUUCACAUACAAAGAAAAUAUAAUUUCUCCUAAAUUUUCUUCACAUUACUCCACAUAAUCCAUAAAAAGAACUUAAUAAAAUAUAAUUUUUUAAUUACUAUAUAUUCUUUUAUUUUUUUUCACAAUAAUAAACUGGUUAAAAUAUGCUAUUCAUCCCUGUACUUUUCAUAAUUUGAGAUUUAGUCCAUGUACUUUAAAAGUUUAAAAAUCCAAUCCUCCUAAUUUUUCAAUUUAAAAAUUUUAGUCCAAUCAUUAUCAUUGUCGGUAAUUCCGUUAAAAUUUGUUAACUUAACAUGUUUAUUUUCUAUCAUAUGCAACGUCAUAUGAAGACAGCCUAAUCAACAUAUAUACCAAGUUGACAGAUUUUGACAGAAAAUACUAAUAGUGUUAAUGGUAGGACCGAAUUAUUUAAAUAAGAAAAGUAAGAGGAGUUAUUUUUUAACCUUUUAAGUAUAAUGACUAAAUUUUAAAUGUUGUCCAAGUACAAGCAUUAACAGCAUAUUUUGACCUAAAAUUUUUUAAAACUUUUAAAAUAGAAUAAUGUUAAAAUAUGCUAAUACUGCUUAUACUUUCAUAAAAUUUGAGAUUUGGUCAUUGUACUUAAAAAGUUAAAAAUUAAGCCCUACCAUCUUUGUUUAAAAAGCUUAGUCCUAUCAUUAACAUUGUUACUAUUAUUUUGUCAAAAUUUGUCAACUUGACAUAUUAAUUAGGUUUCCCUUAUAUGACGUGGUAUAUGAUUGACAAGUAAUAAACAUGUUACGUUAACAAAUUUUGACAAAAAAAAACUACCAAUAAUAAUAAUGAUGGAACUAAAAUUUUAAAAUUGAAAAUUGUAAGGUAUUGAAUUUAUAACUUUUAAAGUAUAUUGACUAAAUCUUAAAUUUUAUAGAAAUACAGGGACUAACAACAUAUUUUAGACACAUAAUAAUAUAUAUAAUUUUCAAUUAAAACUGCAUUGGACUUAAUUGGGUAAGGGUUAAUAUAUUAAUCGGUAUAUGAGUUUCACACUUUUUUUUUAUAAUGUUGUAUUUUUUUUUUUGUUUUUGUUCAAUGUAAUUCAUGUAUUUGGUAAAAAAAAUUACAUAUUUUGGUACUUAAAGAUAACAAUGUUAACUUAUUAGUGUUUGAUCUAAAUUUUAGAGUUGAUUUAAUGAACAUUAAUAUCUAAUAUUAUUAGUUAACUAUGAAUUUUCGUCAAAUCAAAUUAAAACCUAACUCGUAUAUCGUAUAUCAUAUAUAUAUAUAAUAUAACAAGGUACAUAUAAUAAAUUUACAACAAGUGACUCUCUCUUUUUUUUUUUUUAUAUUUAUUAGUUUUUGAUUAUCCAUUAAAUUUUUUUUGUUCUAAUAAAAUUAAAUUAUAGAAUACCAUUAAAAUUCUAAAUAAAAAUAAUUUAUCCGUUAAAAAAUUCCCUAAAAUUUAAAACUAUUGUUAUAAAUAUAUAAUUAAAUUAUACAGAAUUUUAUUUUUUAAAAAUAUUGCUAAAAAGUUAAAAGGGAAAGAGAAAAUUUUAAAAAAAUAAAUAUUCUUUAAUUAGUUAAUUAAAAAAAUCAAUAGUACUUAGAAAAUAUCAAAUUGAAAUAUUAGAUUUUAUAAAAUUUCAUAAUUCAAAAAAAUUAUAUGACAAUGUUUAAAAAUUUUAUUAAAAAGUUUUAAAUUUUAUAUAAUUUUUUAUUAAAAACCUUUAAUAUUUAUAUUUAAUUUUAAAAAUAAACAAAUACUACAAAAAACUUUUUAAACACUAAAUUAAAUAUUAGUUAAUUAGUCAUUUGAUUUUUUUAAUAUUUAUAUGUAUCUUAAAUUUUUUAUAUUUACUAUUAAAAAUUUUAAAAACAAAAUUUAAUACUAUUAAAAACAUUAUUAAAAAAUUAAAAAUAUAUAUGAAAUUUAAAAUUGUCUAAAACAUUUUUUUAAAAAAUUAAAUACUAUAUAAAAUAUUUAAAAUUGUUUAAAAUUUUCUAACCCUAAAAAAUCAAUAAAAUAUUUUUCUCUAAAAAAUCAAUAAAAAAAUGUUUUUUAAGUGCAGUUCGAUUUCAGAAGAAAUAUUUCAUUUAUUAAAGCAUAAAGCUUUAAAAAUGUUAACUCCAUUAAACAACAAAUGAUAUUUUUUAAAACCAUAAAUAUUGACUUUAUUUCAAAUUGACCUUAUGUGAUUUUUUAAUAGUUUUUUUUUACUAAGCUUUACAUCAAUAUACUUGAUUUAUUUGUUGUUAUUAUUAUUUGUUUUUCCAUGACUAUGAUAUUAUAAUUUAAAAAAACUGAAAAGAGAUAAAUAUUAUAAACCCAUUAUUAGACUAUAAUCAUAAAUAUGUCUAUUAUCAUUCGAUAAAAAAAAUUAACAAGUGUUUAGUGCAGUGACAAUGCACAUAGCACUCUUAAUGAAAGAAUGAGAUUCGAACUUUUGAGAUGACAUUAUUGAAAGGAAUAAUCACAAAUUCCAGACAUGAACCGUAAAAUAGACAUGAAGUACCAUAAUAAAAACAUAUGUAUAGUAUCAAACUAGUAAUCCAUGCCAAACCUUAAAUUAACAAAAUUUACCAUGCACCCGUGUACACUAUUUAUAUAUAUAUAUAUACACACUAGAUUUAUUCUUGAUACACAUGUUUAUUAUAUUUAAAAUUUAAAAUAUAUGGCUGCCUGAGUUUUAGUUGAGUUAGGAUUGAAAUUAUUGUCAAUGCAAAAGGACAUAGGUCCAAUUGUGCUCAAAUGUAUUUUAUUUUCCAAUUUAAGGGUUAGGGAGGGGUUAUCGAUAGUAAAUUAUAUUAAUUUUUUAAAUAAUUAAAAAGGAUUUUGUAACACCCUGACCCGACCUAGGAGUUUCGGCUAAGUCGAAGGCAUUACAUUCGAUCACCGACGUGAUCCUAUAAAGUCAUUCUUUUUACUUGAGUUGAUUUGCAAGGAAAUCGCUCUUGUUUUUAGAAAACAUUACUCAUUAAUUUAAACUGACUUUACCUGGUAAUUUAGAGUUUUUAUCAAAACAUUUUAAGUGUUUAUAAAGUAGCGAAAAACUUUCAAGGUAAUGGUUUUCUAAAUCGAAAGGUAUACAAAUAUCAUAGUAAAAACCAAAAUGUCAUGCUUAAAAUAAAUAAGCUAUACAAUCCCAAAAAUGAAAUGAUUAAGGAAAUAUUUAAUGCAACUUUUAAAGAAAAGCAGAAAAAAGCUACUAAUCCAAGGUUCCUCCGAUGCCUUUUCGAGUACUAGAUCUUUACACUACAUGAGAGGUAAGGAAAAAGGGGAAUGAGCUUACAACAGUUCAUUAUGAGACUAACUGUAAACCAUUAUAUAUAAUUAUUCAAAGAGUGAAGUAUUUAAUUCAUAGAAUAAUAGCAUGGUAAACAUAAUGUAAAGAACAUUCAAUAUAUCAAUACAUGUAUAGUUUAUAUUCAUGAUGCAAUGCCAUUAAUGUUUUAAUUUCUCACACGUCCAUCUUAACUGCCCUCGAGUAUUGCUCGACACUCCAAAAACCCACUUCAAUAACUGAUCAUCUUGGGGUUGAUUUUUGAUGACAAUGGUUGUUCACUUGACAUUCAUGACGAUGUCUUUUACUACAAUAACUUACCAUCCCGGUUUGGUUCGGUUUUGAUGGUGUUUUAAACUAUUAUCCCGUCUUAUCCGAUUUAGAUGGCUUUUUACUACAAUAAUAUAUCAUCUCGAUUGUCUCGGUUUGGUAUAUUUUAGCCUACCAUCCCAACUUAUCUGCUUUUGAUGACAUUACCGCCUACGUCGUGCAGUAUUGACUUUUAGUGUAGACUUAAUUUGGCACUGUCUCCUACGGAACUCCUUCGUCCUCCAUACCCAAUUUCAUGUAAUUAUGCACAUAUUCGUAGAAUGUUUAUGUUCUUUUUUUAUCAUCAAUCGAGGUUAUACUUAUCAUGCAUAUUCAAUAUCUCAUACAAACAUUUAAUGGCAUGUACUCAUGCAUUCAUAUCAAUUUUGUAAUAGCCCAAUUUUGACCCUAAUCAGAACAGUGGUUUUGGGACCACAAAUCUGAGUCUGAAAAAUAUUUUAAUAUUAUUUUCUGUGUUAAUUAUGUGUGAAUUUAUAUGUGUGAAAGUUUUGUGAAUUUAUUUCAUUGUUUGUGUGCUUAAUUUGAGAAAAUGGCUUAAUCGCAUAAAAUGAAAAUUUAAUGGUUAAAUAUGAAAGUGCCUAUUUGUUGUUGUCUUUAUAAUUUAGAGGUUUUAUGAUGCAAUUAGCCCACUAUGUAAGUUAGUGGGUGGCAAAAGACUAAUGUAACCUUAAUACAUAUAUGUGUUUUGUUUAUUAAUAUAAAGGGUAAUUUAGGAACCUAAUAAUAAUGAUAAUAUAUGUUAAAAUAAAACAAAAAAAAUGGAAGCCAUUAUCAUCUAUUCUCACUUGCCGAAAGUAAAGAAAUAAAAAGGGAGAAACCUAGCUGAAUUCAGCCAUUGUUGAAAGCUUGAUUAAGGUUUGUUCUUUGUUCGGUUUUUGAUAAUUUUUACGUUUUUGUAAUCGUUGCUUCGUGUUCUUUAAAACCCAUGCUUCAAUUUUGUGAAUUGGUGAUGAUUUUCAAAUAUGCCAUUGAUAAAUUCAUGAGUUUUGUGAUAGUUGAAGGUGAAAUAUGAAAUAUGAAAUAUAUGUGUUAGAUUAACAUAGUUUGUUUUUGACUUUUUGAUGAAUUUGAGUAAAUUGGACUAAAUUGUGAAAAUAAAAUUGUGGGGGACUAAAAUGUGAAAUAAAUAAACUAUAUGGAUUUGUAUGGACUAGGGUGAUAUUCGGCCUAAGCAUAGUUUGUGUAAAUUUUGUGUAUUUUGUGUUUUAUACAAUAGGGACUAAAUUGCAUAAAGUUGAAAAUGUUAGGGGCAAAAUGGUAAUUUGCCCAUUUUUGUGUUUUUGGAUUAAAUUGAAUGAAUGUGUGAUUAAAUUAGUUAAAUUUGAACUUAUUUAGAUCAAGAACCAAAGAAAAUGGAAUUAGAUCGGGGGAAGUCGAAAGUAGUCAAUUAGUCGAUUUCGUCCGUCAAUAUCCAAGGUAAGUCGAUAAGCAUUUAAAUGUUGUUAAAUUCGAGAAUAUACAAAUGAUAUGUGAUAAACUGAAUUAUUUGAAUUGAUAUAUGCUUUGGCCGAAUGUUAACAUUGAGAUAGGGAUUAUGUUUCAAGUUCGAUUCGAUUGAUAAUCAAUAUUUGAAAGCCCCGUACGAACCCUAGGAAUAGAUAGGAUACAUAUGUCAUGACAUAGGAUCUCCGAUAUGUGUUUUUUUGUGUAAGACCACGUUUGGGACGUUGGCAUCGAUUUAUGUUUUCGUGUAAGACCACGUCUGGGACGUUGGCAUCGAUUUUUGUUUUCGUGUAAGACCCUAUUUGGGAUAGUGGCAUCGAUCUGUGAUUACAUGUAAGACCACAUCUAGGGCACUGGCAUUGUACGAGCCUUCUGACUAUCUGUGUAUCCUUUUUAAUUUCGAGCAGUUCAAUAGACAAUGUUAAGUGAAAACCGGAUGUGAAAUUGAAUUACAUGUUCAGGUAUGUGUUAGUUAAAUGUAUAUAUGGAAACAAGGUAAGUUGUUUCCUUGGAAUUAUUUAAGGUAUAUGAAUAUAAAUUUUGAAUUAACAUGUUUGGACAUAUAUAUAUAUGAUUUGGGCUAUGGUGUUAAUUAUGAUGUCAAAGGUGAAAGAUUAAUAUGUAUUUAUGAAAGGUUACAUUCGGCUAUAUAACUUGUAUAUGUGAUCAAAGUAUGACCUUGUAGUAAAUGAUAUCUUUAUAUUGUCAAUUAUGUGAAUUUAACCUUAAUAGUUAAAUGUUACUGGCCAUGAUUAAUAUGCAUGCUUAUGCUUAUGACUUACUAAGCUUUAAAUAGCUUACUGUGUGUGUGUAUUUGUUUACCUCUAUUUUAUGGAUUUUGAAGCCGUUACGAGCUCGGGGAUCAUCAGCAAAGCCUAUCACACUAUCGAUAGUUUCUUUUGGUAUUUUAGUAAGUAAACUUUGAGUAUAUGGCAUGUAUAGCAUAGCUAGAAUGUUGAUUUUGGAACAAUUAUAUGUAUAUGUAAUUAAUAGCCAUGCAAAAAAUGGCUUAUCUUCUUUUGAUGGAGUUUAUGCUUAUGCAUAUUUGAUUACGGUAUAAGCUUGUGAUAGGUAAAUAAAUGUGAUGCAUAUGGAUUUGGACUUGUUGAUUUGGCUAUGAGAAUAGUUAUUUGUUCGAAUGUGCAUGGAUUAGAUGUUAUUAAAUUGAAUGUGUAUAGGUUUGCUUAUGUUUUUGAUUAGUUUUGAAUCAUGUACAUAUAAAUAGCCAUAUGAAUAUGGCCUAACCCCCAUACUUGUGUUCGGUUUGUUUAGCAAUGGUUUAUUCAUUUUAGUUAAGUUUGGUCUUUAUGCUUUUGAUAAAUUUUGUUGAAAUGAUGUUUAGGAUUAUGCAUAUUCGGCUAUAAUAUGAGUUCAGGUUAGGCAUCAUGUUUCAUAGUUUAAGUGCAUAAUUUGCUUGUUAUAUAUGUAUAUUUAUGAUAUGUUUAGUAUGUUCAUCUAUGGUGAUUUGAUAUGAUAUAACUUAAGUAAAUUAGGUUUGAGUAAUGAAUGUAUUAAUUUGGUGUGUAUUCGGCUUUGUACUUAACUCAUUUUGGAUGGUAGGAUACAUGGUUUAAGAUGUAACAAAAUUUAUGAAUUUGUAUGCCCUGGGCUGAAAUUUAUGUGUUAAGUGAUACCUUGUAUAUUCAUAAGUAUAUGCUAUCAAAUUUAGUAUGUUUAGUCUCAUAAUUUGUUAUUCAAGUUAUAUAUAUGUUUUGGUGAAUUUCAUGAAGAUAUAAAUAGACUAUGGUUUGAGAGUUAUACAAUGACCGAAUAUGCUUUAAUUAGUUUUGUAGUGAUAAUGAAACAUGGAUAUUCGGAAAUGGUUAAUGGUAUAUAUAUAAAUAUAUGUGCAAGUUGGUAAAUGGAUAAAAUGCAUGUUUUUGGUUCUUUGAAAUGUUCAAUAUUGUAUAUGUUAUCUUUGAUCUUAGCCUUUAAGUUUUAAGUUAUGAUUUCUUUAAAAUGAUAAGAGUAAGUAUAUUCUUAAGUAUCAAGGUAUUUAUUAAAUUAUCAUUAUAUGUUUGAAUAAGCAUAGUGUACCUUCAUUUAGUUGUAAUGGCAAAAUGUGCAUUUUUAUUAUGCUUGAAUGGUUAGUAUAUGUACUUUGGAUUGAUUUUUAAGCAUGCAAAUUUGGUAUACUUGAUUUGUUUCAUUUAGUAUAUGUUUUUAAAAAUAAUAAUAAUACUAAUAAUAAAAUUAUAUAUAUAGUGCAUUAUUCGGUUUUGUAUUAUUAUAAAGGUUUCAUAUGUUAUGUUAAACUUGAAAUAUGUGUUAUGUUCGGUAAUGUCUCGUAACCCCAAUCUGACGACGGACACGGGUUAAAGGUGUUACGAAUUUCACAUAUACAAUCUUUUCAUGCAACAAGAACUUGUAACAAUAUAUUUAUAUUAGAUUCCUUAACAUGCUUACUCGGCUAGCACAUACAUAACUGGUUCAUACAUACACAUAUAAUUUGUGCGAGUUAAAAAAAAUAAAGUGUCACAUGUACAAGAUUUUUAUGUGAUUUAAUAGGCCUAGUUAUCUAGCACAUGUACCGGUUUGCAUAUAGGCUCGCAUGUACCUGAGGUUCACACAACAUGUAGGCUCACAUGUCCCUAGGGUUCGCAUAUUAAUUAUCUAGGGUUCGUAUAAUUAGCAUAAGAGGUUGCAUGUAUACAAUGUUAGCGUAAUAUUCCCUUAAGUGUUCAUGUAAUAAACAUAUAGGGUUUGCAUAUAUAACAUCCAGGGUUCGCAUGUAAACACAUAUAGGGUUUUUACAGUACAAAAUAUAGUGUUCGCAUAGUACAACAAUUCAUAGGGUUUGGCUAACAUGGUUCAAAUAUGAUGCAUACAGGGUUCACAUAUCAUGUCUCACUUAUGACGCAUACAAGGUUCACAUAUUACAAUCCAUAGGCUCCGCAUAACAUAAUCCUAAGGUUUGCAUGUAACAAGUUCAUAUGUCAUAACCUAAGGUUCACAUGUAAUAAACUAUAGUGUUCGCACAUAGGCUCGCACAUAUAGGGGGUUUGCACAUAUAGGUUCACACACAAGAGUUCCAACACCUAGUUGUCGUACAUAGGGGUUUCCACGUAUAGGUUCGCACAUAGGGGUUCACAUGGGGGUUCACAGACAUGUACCAAUGAUUCACUAUGUCACACUAUAAAAAUAGGGGUUCUCGAACUCUGUCAUACUAUAUAAUGUGAGGGCUCACAUACUACGUCCUUUUAUAUAACAUGGGUGUUCGCAUACUAUGUCAUACUAAAACAUAUAGGGUUCGCAUCUUUGCACUAAGGGAUGGCACAUAUAUUCCUCGUAAGGGUUCGCUUAAGGGUUCCAUGCAAGGCUCACAUAUAUGGGUUCACAUGAAAGAAAUUACUUGCUUUUAAUUUAACAAUUAAUGCAACACCUCAUACCCGGUCUAGAAGUUAUGACCCGAAUGUGAAGGUGACAUUGAUAAUUUUAAAACUUUAACUCUUUGCUAUUGUAACACAUCUUAUUUUGAAAAAUGAAUAUUCGGAAAAUGAAUAGUCAAAAAAUAAUAAUUUUUAGUUAAACCUUUCGUGCAAUCCUUAGAAGAUCUCACGCUCUAAAACACUUAAUUUAUAGUAAAAUCACAUAAUCAUUUUCUUAGUUUAGCAGUGGAAAAAUUUUCAAAGUUUUAGUUUGAAAACCGAAUUUUAAUUUGUUAACUAGUAUGAUUUUUUAGUUUUAAGUUAAAAAUACCAAAAAAAACCAAAAGAAAAACCAAAAACGAAGUCUAAAAAUAGAUUAAUAGCCCAAAAAUCUAGAAAAAGUUAAUAACAGAAAGCACCAUAAUAAAUUAAACAAGAAAAAUAAUCUAAGCUCCCGCACGUCGUCCGAUCCUAAAUUAGCUAAUUACCUGAAAAGGGUAAAUACAGAAGGGUGAGCUAUAAAUCUCAGUGUGUAACUAAACUCAAAUAGAGAACAAAAAUAACACAAUAAUCAGAUCAUAGAAUUGCAAAGAACUUAAUAACAAUCAAUUGAGCAAAACUCAAAACGCAUGCUUAUGCCAAUGCGAUAUUUUUCAGAAAAACAUAAUGCAAUUUUUUAGAAAACUUCCUACCCAACUUCGCUACACACCAAAAUAGAGUUCCCCAAAACUUAUCCAUCCAAAAACAAACCAACAGAUAAUUGUAGACAAUGCCACCAGAGUUGUAGUUAAAACUGCCAGAUUGGAUAUAUGUGGUCAAGCCACUGUAAUGUAACCAAGCUGCCAGAAUAGAUAUAUGUGGUCGAGCCACUAUAAUUAUAGACAAGUUGCCAGUCAGAAAUGUGAUUAAACCACUGGAUAGUGCAAAUCAUUAAACUGUCAAAACUUCCUCCUUACCAUAAUAUCCCAAACCCCAUGCAAUGUGUGUAACUCCCCGAAAAUAUGAACUCUCGAUUUGUUAAUUUAUGUCAUAAUUAAGUGUUUAUCUCAAUGGUUAAGGGCUUGAGGAUGUGUUUGAGGUCUUGGGUUCGAGUCUCUCUAGGAGCUUUGAGAGUUAUUUAUUUAUUUAUUCUAAAUGAUCUUUUGGGCUGUUCAAUUAGUAGAAUUUGGGUAAAAGUGGAAGACUGGGAACUUAGUUGGAUAAGAAUUGGGUUUGUUAGGAUGUUGGGGAUAUUGUUUUUCUUUUUCCCUUUAUUUUAUUUUACUAUAUUUUUUAACCCAUUUUUCUUUUAAGUUUUGAAUUUAAAAAGAAAAUACAAAAUAAAAAUCCCAAUUAUUACUCCACUAUUCACGUUCCACUUUUAUUCCCAAUUUCUGUAAUACCCAAAAAAAUUACUACAGUAAAAAGUAAGUUAAUAUCCUUGAUAUAGUAAAAUAAAGAAAUAAAGUGAUAAAAAGGGUAAUUUUGAGUUAUUUCAACAUUGGGAAGUAUAUUAUGACAUAUUAAUUCAAGAAAGGAUUAAAUCGCAAAAGUAAAAAAAGUUUUGUUGCCCAAGAGUAAAUACUCAAAAUUUAAGGGGUUAAAGUGUAAAUAUAAAAAAGUUGAACGACCAAUAGUGCACAUAUUUUAAGGGUGGAAUGAUCUAGAAACUAAGGAAAAUAAGAGAAAGUAAUGGGAAAUAUUAUAAAGAAAAUGAAUAAGGGAGUUAUAAACUUAGUAAUCAACAUCUUGCAUUAAAAUAGUUUUGGACAGCAGCAGUAGUCUAACUUUGAAAAUUCACAAAAAAUUGUAGGAAUCGAAUUAGAGAAUUAAUAGAAUAUAAAAUUAAAGAUUAUUGAGUCUAGUUUCUUAUAGAAGAAACUGUGUAAGUAAUAGAAUUUUAAAUCAUGAGAUAUGAUAAAUGUUGUGAGACAAUGUCAGAAUGAUUUCGGGUUCACCUGUUCUGACUUUGGAAAAUCAUCAAAAAUUAGAGAAAAAUAAUUAGGGGCUUAAAUUUAUCCUUAAUGAGUCUAUUUUGAAUAGAAACAAAUGGUAACAUCAUAUGAAUCCUGUACGAGGAGAUAAUUAAUUUUUAGUGAAGAAGGGUCAAAACUGUCAAACAGCAGAAUAAGGAUGACUUUAAAGAAUAAACUGUACUUGUUAGCUAAACCAAAAAUUCUUAAAAUUUUAUGGUAAGAAUAUAUGUGAGUCUAGUUUCGGAUAAAAUUAACGGAUCUCAAUUCGGAGUUCUGUAGCUUAAGAUAUAAUUAGUUUAGUGACCAUGACUCAAGUGAAUAGCUUGUUAUGAGUAAACAAGUAAAUAGUGGUAUUAUGUAUAUAUCAAGGAUAUGGAAUGGAGUGGAGGAGGAGGAAAAAAAUAUGUGUGAAUAUUUAGCUAAUAUGAGAUUAUUUUAAAAAAGCAAAUUUCCAUGUUUUAGGCUCAGGUACUAAAUUGAAUAAAAGUAAAACUUUAGGGAUAAUUUUGUAAAAAUGUCAAAAAUGAUCAAAUUGAAGUAAAUGAAUUGUUUUACUUUCUAUAUUAAUGUAUGGAAAUAAAUUAUAAAUAUCAAGUGGGUUUAGAACGUUAAUUUUAUUGUAUGAUGAAUUUAUAAAUAAUUUCAGUUUUGAACAAUAAUUGAUAUAAAUUAAUUGAAAUUGUUCUGAAAAAUUCGGUAAUACUCUAUAACCCUGUUUCGACGAUGGGCAUGGGUUAGGGGUGUUACAAUUUCCUUUCAAACAUGGUUUUCAUAUUGUACAGGAAGAUUUUGCUAAAAAAAAGUAUUCUUUUGUUUUUUCUUUUUUCCUCUCUAAACUUCUUGGCUUUCUUGAUCUUGGUCUCUUGGGUUACCAAAUUUCUAUAGUGCAUGCCUAAUUGAAUCAUUUGCAACUCAAAUCUGGUGUAAGUGCUAUCAAUUUCAUUCAUUCUAUGAUUGAAUUUUUAUGUCGUUAUCUUUGUCUAAGUUGGGAUUUUACUAGUUCUAUUUGCUUCGAUUUUCGUUGUUAAUCGUGUGGGAUUCUCUAGGUGAAGGUUGCAAACCAGGUUAUCCACUAAUGAAUUGAGGCUUGUUAGGGUACUAUCGUCACAUUAGGGUAAGUGAUUAAUGUUGUUUUUGGGUUGUAAGUUGCCGAAAUAGUUGGUUAGUGUCGAAUUCUUCAAUUGAUCGAUUUGGGUUGAUUAGAUUUUAGCUAAUAAUUCGUGUAAUUUAUCGAUUUAAGUAUUGUAUUGCGUGAUUAUUGAUUCUACGUCGGUUUUUCACUAGGUGUAUAACAAAACACACGAAAAAUAGCUAACCGUGAAAGUUAAAAAAUUGCUCAGUCGACGCCACACGGCUGUGUGCCAAGCCAUAUGGUAGGUCGUGUGUGACACAUAGCCAUGUGACAGAUCGUGUGCUAGACUAUAUGGGACACACGGUCUAGGCUAUUUGGGUCGUACAGGGCUAUGUGGGCCACAUGGGCUAGCCAGUUGGGCCAUGUGGGCCCAAAAUUUAGGAUUUUUCCCUAGGGCUAAAUACAUCACCUUGAUUGACUGUGGGCCUUCCGUAGGGUCGGUAUGUGAUUAAAUGUAUUGUAACAUAUGAAAUAUGGUCAUCUAGUAGUGUAAAUUAUGUUGUCUGUAAGUAUUUUUGAGAUGUCAUGUGAUAAGUAAACUCGAAAAUUGUUAUGUAUGUGAUUUGUAUCUUAUAUGUCAUGCAUAUAAAACUGUAGCAAGUAAGGAUUCUACUCUGAUUAUGUCUUUUUUCGGGAUGGGCUAUACUAUGUGUAGGAAGUGUUUCUGUGAAUGGUGAUACUCACCCAUUAUACUGGCAACAAGGUUGCAAAUAUUCUAUUAGUGUCUUAAUGACACUAAGUGAUGUGUAGGGUUGGAUCGGUGUUUCAUACCCCAUAUGGUGUGUUGGGAUGGUCAGAGAUGGUGUGUAGCGGAUGAGGGUAGGAAAUCUAUCUGUAUCUGUCUAAUAUUAAUUAUCUGUUUAAGAUAUUUGUUGCACACUGAGUUUCAAAAACUCAUUUUCUAUUUGAUUGUUAUUUUCAGGUAACCCUUAGACUUAGGCGGAUCGGUGCAUUCAGGAACUCGGUUAAUCAUUAUUUUUUAAAAUUUGACUUAUUUAAAUUUGGGUUUUAGAGUUAUGUAAAUUUUGGACUUUCUAGACAUUUUGGACUGUUUGGGUUUAGAACUUUACUUUCAUAUUUUACUUAAUAACGUUUAAAUGUUUAAUCGACAAUGUUCACUUUUCUGCAAAAUUAAUGGUUUUCAAACAACAAACAGUGUUUUCCAAAAUAUCACUUUUUAAGGAGUCUCCGCUACAAAAUUAUAAGUUUUUAGAAAAUGUAAUCAAACAAAAUUUUCAAUAAUAAAAUUUGGAUAAGAUAUAUUUUCGAAUAAUCUGAGUUUUUAAGAGUUUAUGACUAUUAUCAAGAUUUAAGAAAACUAAAAUUUUCAAUCAAAUUACGUAACACAUUAUGAUCUUGUUAUAACGUCUAAGCCAGGUUUGGAGUGUUAAAAUGUGACAUGGCAUGCAUAUAUAGAAUCAGAAUGAAAAGCAUGUAGGACAUGCAGUCGUACAAUAAUAAAGAUCAGAAGGCAUGGCAUUUGCGGAAUAGAUGUAUCACAAAUUCAACAUAAGCAAAUCAGAUUUGCCAUAACGUCACAUGCAUGGUCAUAUAGUAAAUUCAGAGAUAUACAAUACAUCAUAUAGAUACACAACAUAGCAAAAUGGAAACAUGUCAUCAAAAUUGAUAGAAAACAGAUCAUACAUAUAUAAUUCUUAUACCUUAAGCACAUCACAUCAAAAGCAUAUUAACAAAUAACUUAUUUUUUAGUCUUAUUAAGCAGUAUGGACCCUACAAAGAGUCUAAUUACAAACCAAAGAUCAAAAUGGCCCUAGGUGACAAUUUUCCAAAAAAUGGGGCCACACACCUAUUUGGCCCACACGACCCAAAUAGCUCUGACCGUUUGAUCCAUACAGCCAUGUGACAUCGACAAUGAGUUUUUCAGCAUUGCGUCAUUUUCUAUUUUUCAGGUUUUUCAUUACACACCUGAUCAUUUUUCGAUGUAAAUCCAACCACUAGAAUUCCAGAACCUAAAACAAGCAUUUAAGUGAUCAAUUUCAAUAAUGAAACACUAAUUCCAAAAACCAACUUGGCCACAACCGCUAACAUUAAACCUUAAUAAAAUGGAAACUAGCCUUCCGAUGUUCAAUCACUUACCCAAAACAGAAAUAGUAGCCUAAAAUAGUGCCUAAGUUGUCAAAAAGAUGUGGUACGCACCACUCUCUUCUCUUAUCAGAAACCAAAAUAAUUAAUAAUCGGAUAAUACAAACUACUAUAUCCCUAAUCAACAAGUGGAAAGAACUAGUUAAUCUUACCUUUAAGGAACACCCUUGCAAGACUUACUCGUCAGAAAAUAAAUGAUAGAGAAAUGACAAUAGAUUAGCAAAUACUGAUAUCAACAUUUUGGGUAGCCAACAAAGGAGAAAAGAGAGAACAACCAAAUUAGAAAAUGGGAAAAAAAUGGAAAAGAGAGACGAUAGAAAGUGUGAGGGAUUUUAGGAGAAUUUUUGGGAAAUUUAAAAUAAUAAAAAUAAACUACCCACUUCCCUCACUCAAAGAAAAAAAAUUCAAACCUAAAACCUCUCACACACAAGCACAACACUUAACCAUUGAACCAAAUUAAAUCACUUAACAUAAUUUUCACAACCUCAAUUCAAAAGCCGAACAUAACCCCUCUUGGUUUCACUGACUUGGUUUUCAGAUUAUGACAAUUAAUUGCAUAUAAUGACUUAAGUUUAGACCCCACACCUGAUUUGAAAACACCAAACCUUAGUUUUUGAGAGGAGAUUGACGAUCUACUUGAAGAGGGAUUGAUUUUGAAAACUUUGACUCAUUUUGCUUUGAGAGUUGAUUUGAAGAGAAAAGAGCUUGAGGGUGCUUUUCUUAAAAGUUUGCUAGAUAAAAUUCUAGGGUUUGCAUAAAAUUGAUUAUUUAUAAAACAUAUUUUUCCUUAAUUGAAAUAGGUUUUCCUAAUUCAUGUAAAAUUAGAAAAAAAAUUUAAAAUAAGGACUAAAUUGAAAAAAAUUGGGCUGGGCUAAUUUGAAAAUUUGACACUUUUGUGGGAUAAAAACAAAAAAUAUAUAUUGGUUGAAUACACACAAGGAAUUAUGAACUUGUCACCUAUAGGUAGACUAAGGCCUUACCACUAAACCAACAGACUCAUUCUUACUAUCUUUUAACACAAAUAAAAUUUAAGGCAUACUAAAGGCUUGUUUAGCAUUACUGUGAAGAAGCACUUUUGGCUUAAAAAGCACUUUUGAGAGAAAAGUUAUUCUAAACAAGUAAUUUUUGGCUAAGAUUUUUGACUUUUCAAAAGCACUUUUGGCCAAGUGGAGAAGUUAAAAUUUUUAGCUUUUCUUCCCCCAAGAGCACUUUUGAGUGCUUAAUUACUAUUCCAUCCCUCCAAGAACACAUUUUAAAAUAAAAUAAUAUAAAUGUGUUAAUAUUUAAUUACAAAUAUUUAAUGGUUUUAUUUAAAUAUUUAAAAUAUAGUUUAUUCUAAUUAAAUUUUAUAAAUAAUUAAUAUUUAUUACUUAAAAACAUUUAAAAUUUAUAUUUCAUAUAUUAAAAUAUUAAAAAAAUUGUAAUAAAUUAUUUUUUAUAUUCUUACUAAAAUAUCAUAAUAUUAAUUAAUUUUAAUAUUAUUUAAAUGCAUAUUUAUUACUUUAUAAUAUCAUGUCUAAAAUUGACAUUUUAUUUCUCAAAAGUACUUUUUGACAUUAAUACUAAACACUUAAAUCUUAAACUAAACUUCUCAAAGAUACUUUUCCACCACACUUUUUAAAAGCACUUUCCAAAAUCAAUGCUCAACUAUCUCAAACUCUCUUACCUUAUACUUUAAAAGAGAAAAAAAGAUUUUAAAUUUUAUCCCUAUUUCUUUUAACCCAAUUUUUAGGAUGUCAAACAUUUAUAAAUAAAAUAAGAAAAAGGAAAAAAAAGCAUCUACAUAUUGAUGGGUUUUUUUCAUUAGGAGACUUUAUUUUUAUCGCAGGUAAAAGUUUUUAUGGAGAGGAUCAUGUAAAAUUAUGAUUUUCUGUGUUUUCUUCUUUGCUGACUUUUUUAAUGUCAUUUUCUAUCAUGAAAGAAACUUAAAGAUUCACUAUGUAUUUCUCAACCACUAUGAAAUUACUUGACUAUGGGGGUAGAAUUUUCUCACCAAUUUUCUAACAUGAGAUUUUUUGAAUGAGACAAAUAUUCAAUUUUAACACAAACAUAUAUUUAGGGUUAUAGUUUAGUUAUUGAGAGCGUUUCCCAUAAUUAGUCACCCCUAUUUGUGAGUGAUUAGGGGAUAAAAGCUUAAACAUUUCUAGAUCACAUUGCAUUUAAGACGUGUGUUUGGAGUUAUAUGAUAUUUUAACAUAGACUGGCUUUUCUAUAAAGAGUCCUUGCUUUACUUUGGGGGGAUUCUUCCAUUUAGCGUGGUCGUUGUUAUUACUCACCAACAAUUAUUGUACUGUCAUCCUUAUUCCUACCCCACCUACAGAGAAGUUUCAUUCGAAGAUGUCCUUUUUUCUUUUAAUAUUUUUUAUAUUUUCAUGGAUAUGAGGAGAUACUCAAUAUUAUUAUAUUAUGAAAUUUUAAUUCACUCAAAAAGUAAGUGUUUUAUUUCAAGGGAUUAAUAUUAGCUCUCUCUUUUUUAAAUUUUGAAUUUUUUUUACAACUGCUUAAUUAACAAUGUAUGGUGUUAUAGGGGUGUUUUAACCUUUCCUAUGUAUAAUCGACUCCUGAACCUUUUUUCCUUUAGAAUUCAAUGCAUACCUCAAAUUUGUCUUUUUAAAAGAUUUUUAAAAUCUCUUUAUAAAAGAUGAUCACACUUAACAAAAAUGAUCCUGACCACUUUUCUUUAAUAAAAUAUUAUGUUUUUGCAAAGACCAAAAUUUUCAUAUUUUUCAAGAAUUCCUCAAUCUAAUUUUCUUUUUGAAUUUUUAUUUUCAAGAGGAAAAUGAUCCCUACAAUUAAUAUUUAUUUUCUUCAUUUUUAAAUUUUUUUUAAGGGAGAUGAAUAAUGGAAUGAUAAUUUUUAGUUAAGGUAAAGUAAAUUUAAUUAUGUACAACCUUCAACUAUUAAUUUUUUCAAUUUAAUUACAUAAUUUUUUAAAACUAACACUCUUUUAUUAGUUGUCACUAGUUGAGGGACGAAAAGUUGAUUUAGAUUUUUUUAUUGACCUAAUAACAAAUUUAAAUAUUCAAAGUUUACUUAUUCUAUCAAUUUAAUGCUAAAUUUAAAAAAUUCAACAAAUCCUAUCAAAAAACAAUUGGACCCUCUCUCACUCUUAGCAAUACACACUAUCAUACAUGACACAUCACCAUCUUCAACUCACCCGACCAUUGACACCGCUAACAAUCUCCACUCUACUUUUUUUUAAUGAAAAUUAAUGAAAAUAUAUAAAUAAUCACUCAACUAUAAGUGUAUUUAUAGUUUAGUCAUUUAAAUUUAAAAUUUUAAUUACAGUAUAAAAAUAAUUAUCUAACCAUUCGAUUUAUUCUAUUUUAAUCUAACUUUUCCACAAUUGUACAUCUCUGGGUGGGCACAAAAACUUGUACAUUUCUUGAUGACAUUUAAUUCAAUUGCAUUUAGGAUCACAUAAUUUUCUUUCAUCCUUUUCAUUAAUAAACUGUUUCAAAAACAAUACCACGUCGACAAUAAAUUUGCUAUUACACAUUCAAUUUUUGGACGUGUCGUUGAAAUAUUAAUUUCACUUAAGCUAUUGACAGACUUUUCAGUUUUUAGUCUCUUUCCGUAGAAAAAUUCAUAACAAUCAGUCAAAUAGAAUUGAGUAUACAUGAUUAUACCAAUGCGGUAUUUUUCAAAAAAUUUUAAUGCAGAUUUUUCAGAAAACGUCCUACCCAAAUCCUCUACACGCUUGAAUAGAGUUCUCCAGAACUUAUCCAUAAAAAAAAAACACACCAAUUGAGUCAUCUCAGGUUGCCCAAGAAUUGAUGACUCGCCACCAUGGGAUGCCCGACAACGAUGGCUUAUCACUAUGCAAUUAAACUGUUAGAUCAGAUAAUUGUGGUCAAGCCAUUGAAUUGCAUCUCAACUGCCAAAACAAAAAUAUGUGGUGAAGCCACUAUAUUCCAUCCAAGCUGCCAAAUAAAAAUAUGUGGAUAAACCAUUAGAUAGUGCAGACCAUUAAACUGCCAAAACUUCCUCCCUUCCAUAUUAUCCCAACCCCAUGCAAUGUGACAUAGCAUGCAUUUACAGAAUCAAAGCGGCAAGCAUAUAAGACAUGUAGUCGUACCGUAAUAGAAUUUAGAAAGCAUGGCAUUCCACUCUUUUACAGAACAGAUGUAUCACAAAUUCAACAUAAGCAAAUUGGUAUGCUAUAAAGUCACAUGCAUGAUCACAUAGCAAAAUCAGAAACAUAAAAAUAACGUAACCAAACCUUAUAUAAUCAUAUACAAACAUAACAAUGCAAAUCAUGCUACUAGAUUCAUUAGAAAAUAGUUCAUGCACACGAAUUUCACAUACCUUAUUCAUAUCACCUACAAUAUCAAAUUAUCAGAUAUUACAUUUUCAAAGUCAGUUUUACACUGUACGAACCUACAAAGUGGCUAAACAUGAUUCAUGAAUCAAAACGAGCCUAAACGAAAUUUUUUAGAAAAUGGGCCAACAUGGCCCAAUUAGCCUAGGCCGUAUGGCGUCGACUGUCCAAGUUUCGACUUUCAGCAGUUCAUUAUUUUUUGAGUUUUUCGAUAUACACCUUACUAUUUUCCGAAGCAAAAUCAUGGCAAGAAUUCCAAAACCUAAAAUCCAUAUUCAACCCACUCAAAUUAUCAAUGAAACCCAAUACUAAAUCGUUAAACAACCAAAAUUGCUACCAAUAAACCUUAUCAAACCAAGAAUCAACCUUUUGGCAUCUGACUACUUACCCAGAAUAGUAGCAGCAGUACUAAAAAUCUCUCAAUUCAUCGGAAGACUAUUUGUUACAGAAACAUCACCUAAACCAAAGAUUUCAGAGUAAUCAAAAUCGCGUCACACAAAGAAGGAAACAAAUUAACCCCAAAAUUGUGAAACUCAACAAAGUACGAAUCUUUUCACAUAUUCCUUACCACCAACCGUCAAGAUUGCUCAAAAACCACUAAUGACACUGACCUUCGCAAGGUUAAAUUGAAACCAAAAGGCAACUAAAGAUGGAACAAAGGUUGUUAUAAAAAAAAUAUUAACAAAGACUUAUUGGAGCAAAAAUGGUGAAAAAUCAAGAAUAGGGAGAUUGGAAAAAAAAUAAUGAAACGACAAAGAGAAGGAGCGGGAAAGUGACGGCAGUUUGCGGAGAGAUUUUGGGUAAAUAAAAAGUAACUCACCACUCAACCCAUUAAAUCUGAUUACCCUCUAAACAGAUUCCCUUAGCAUUUAAAUUCAACCCAAAUACCACUACUUGGGCAGCAUAGUGUAAGGAAAUAAAAAUAUUUCUACUUUGCACACAUGAGGUCUUGAACACGAAACCUUAGGGUAAUUUGAAGCCUUACCACUAAAUUAGUAGGCUCAUCCUUGAAAUUAAUUGAACGAAAAUAUUACUUAUGUCAGAUGAUCAGGGAUAGAGGUUAAGACCAAAGAUGACAAAAAUUCAAAGGAAAGAUUUAAACCUAGAACCUCACACACACAAGCAUAACACCUAUCCACUGAACCAUAUUUACUCCAUUGACAUAAUUUUCACAAUAUUAACUAAAAAUUCAGAAUAUGGUUACUCUUGGUUUCACUUACCCAGUUUCUUCUAACCCAAUUUUUGUGAUGUGACAACUCUCCCCUCCUUAAAAGAAUUUCAUCCUCGAAAUUCUUGCCGUGACACCAUACACUUAACUACAAAAUCUAAAAUUCCCUAGUCCAAACCUACCACCAGGCUAUCAUUGUACAACUCUAAUCUCCAUUCAAGUCCGAUCCAAACAAUAUUUCAGAGGAAUUUCCUAUUCACUACCUCGGAUUACCUUAAUAAGCUUUCCACAGAAACAUCACUAAUGAUCCUGUAAUAGGCCCAAUUUGUCCGGGCCCGCAUGCAUAAACCAAAUAAAAGAAUAAAUAAAGGCCAACAAUUCCAAAGUCCAUUUACAUUUGUCCAAAAGACCCAAAUUACAUCAGCCCAAAUACUAGAACCUAGCCCAAAUACAAUUUGACCCAAAACAAGCCUUCAGAAACCCUAGUAGCAGCACACGACCCCUAGCGCCGCAGCGGCCAGAAUUUCCUCCGCGCGAGUUGCGCCUUCACACGCGUGUGCACCUCCGUCCAUUGAUCCAGGCUGGCCUCCAAAUCUGCAAACAAACAAAAACAACAGAAAAGGCAACAAAAAUACGAGAAAAAGGGGAUAACAGAUUGGAUUUUGGAGGCAUUUUAUUUUGAGUUUUUCUGUAAUUCUGGCUAUAAAAAGCCAAUACGAAUACUGUAAGAGGGACGGAAGGAAAUAAAAGAAAUACUAAAAAUACAGAGGAAUUAGAAGGUGAAUCGCGUCUUUUUUUUUAUCUAUUCUCUGUUUCUUUACUUUUGAUUGUGUUUUACAAACAAAAUUAGAAAAGGAGGAAGGGGUUUUACCUUUGAAUCUUCGCCGUUGAAGCCCACACUCGCUUCGCUCCAAUCGGGAGCCUGGCGAAGGGCUAAGACCCGAAGCGCCUUUGAACGGUAGGCAAGUGGCGAUUUAGGGCGAAUGAUGAAACCCUAGCAGAGGGUGUUCUGCUUUCUUUUUAUUUAUUUUUCCUGUUGCAAGAAUGGUUUUUAGGAAAAAAAUUGUUUUAAAUAACAGUGGUGAAACGGCGCCGUUUAGGUGGUCAUGACCCGCGCAGUGACCCGACCUAGAGGGGAGGAUCCGCACGUUCUGGCUGAAGGUGAAAUUUGCGCAAUUGGUCCCUCCCUUUUGUAACGCGCUUCAAUCAAAUCUGUUUUGUUUUUUUUAAAUUGGACCACAUAUUUAAUUUUUUGUUUCAAUUUGGCCCAUCGCUGCGCAGCAUUUUGGAAGGCGGGGAUAAUUUCCUUUUUGGUCUUCCACUGUUGUGCUCGCAUUCAAUUUAGUCCUGUCUUCAAAUUUAUUUCAAAUCCACCCCACUUUUUUUCUUUUUAAUUCAAGCUAGUCCAUUUUUAGUUAUUUUUAUUAUUAUUUUUUAUGAUAUUAUCAUUAUACCAUUAUUAUUAUUACAUUAUUUACUAUCAUUAUUACUAUUGUACUUUCUAUACAUAUACAUACGCAUAUUUUAUAUAUAAUAUAUUCAUAUUUUUAACAUAGAUAUAUUUUUUUGAGCUUUUAUAAAUAUGCAUAUAUUUGAUAUAUACAUUUUUUUUAUUUUCCUAAUUUUUAUAUACUUUAUAUUUUAUCUAAUACAUAUACGUUUUAUAAUACACUUUCCGCAUUUUAUAAUUUAAAAUACACAUACGUUUUUUAAUAUUUUUAUGUACAUGUUUUUUAAAAAUCAUUAUAAAUAUUUUUAUUAUUUACAUAUUCUAUUAUUUUAUAUACAUAUUGUACAUAUAUACGUAUUUAAAUAUAUACGAAUGCGAAUUUUCAUGAUUUACCAAUACACUUAUACAUUUUUAUUUUUUAAAUAUAUAUAUACAUAUAUAUACUUUUUAUUUUAUUUUCACGAUUUUCAAAUACAUACCUGCAUUUUUUAUUAGUUUUUGAUUGAUACGUUCUAUUCCAUCUUUAUAUGCAUCAUUGUAUAUGUGUGUUAAAUAUAUGUGUACACAUGUUUGCAAAUUUACUUAUUGUACUUGUAUAUAUAUAUUCUAUAAAUAUUUAUUCAUAUAUGUUUUAAAUUGAGGUAUUUGUUUCAUAUUGUACAUUAACUUUUUAACAUACCUUUUAGGAAAUUUAUAUUUUGGUUUCAUCGAAACAUCAAAAUCAUUUUCUCUUGAUUUAAAGGUUUUUUUUUGAAAUAAAAGCAAUAUUCAAAGUUUGGGAUUUUCGAGGAAAUUGAGCCCUAACGUAUUGGGUUCCGAUUUUCUUUGUUAAUCUUAAAUAGCUGAGAGUAUUCUUUAUUCAAAAUGCAUGAGUAUAAAACUUGUCAUCGAGAAUUCAAUAUGUUGUGUCCUAACGUAUUGGAUGUGACACGUUGAUUUCUCGAGAUAAAGAUUUCUUUUUUAAAAAAAUAAAAUGAUAAAGGAAAUAUUGAAUGUUUGGGAUUUUAGGAAAUUGUGCCCUAACGUAUUGGGCUGCGAUUUCUUCAUAAAUUUUAAACAAUUAAAUAUUUUCUUAAGUUUUAUUACAUGAGUUUUUUUGGACCAACUCGUCUUGAAAAGAAUAAAAUAUUGCGCCCUAACGCAUUGGGUGUGAUAUUUACCUUUUUCAAAAUGAGAAAGUCUUAAUAAAUAAUUUAAUUUAACUAAGGAUCAUAUUUAUUAACUCUCGACAUUAAGACACUAAUUAAUCAAUUUGGUACCAAAUUUUGGGCAUUACGAGGGUGCUAAUCCUUCCUCGUACGUAACUGACCCCCGAACCUGUUUUUCUAAAACUCAUAGACCAAAAUCAUUUUAGGUUAUCCAAUCACACCUCAAUAAAAGAUUGGUGGCGACUCCCAAUUUUUGUUUUUUUUUUAAGUGGAGAACUAAAUUUUUGUUUUUUUUCUAAAAAUAAAAAAAUGGUUUCGACAGCUUGGCGACUCCACUGAGGACCUUUUUAAAAAAAAGAGUCGAGCCACAAAGUUGAUUAAUUCUUCUCUUAUGGUCAAAAAUUUCAUUUUUUUAAAUUCAUGGUAUCCUGUUGCAUUCAUUAUUUCUUGCUUAAUGGAUUUAAGUAUUGUUCGCAUUACACAUUACAUGAGUGGAAUAAUUUUACCCUUUUAAGUGGGAGCGAGAAACUAGUCCUUCGUGAGGUUUUCACCUCCGUGCAGGGUAGUGGACCUCUUCCGGAAUACAUCCGUACCGUACCAAUGUCUUCGUGAGAUUUUCAUCUCCGUGCAGCCAUAGGGAAAUGUAUUCCCCUGAACUGAACUUGGUCCAUAUGAGCCUAUAAUGGGUGACGAUUGAGGAAUCUGCUAGUUCGGGUACCUUUACUUUAGAACCAAAUCGCAUAUAAUGAACCUUAGGAACUUGCCCUAGGUAGAACUAUGCCAAACCCCUAGAGGUAACCCGAGUAGAUACUUUAUUUAUUUGCUUUUACUUUGUACUAACUUGUUUUUUAUGUUGUUUUUAUUAUGAUUGCAUUGCAUUUGCAUCUUAAAAAAGAGGUGUUGAUUCACGUUCAGUUGCUAAAUAGAGAGCUUGUCAUAAGAAAAUGGGUUUCUUGAUAAAGUGGGUGACAAUAUGGUUGUUCAAAUAGGGUCCAAGAACACGUGAUAAAAGAAGGAUGAUAAUUUAAUAGAGGACUACACGACUAUGGCUCCGUUGCCCAAGGAUUUAAGAUGACAAAGAUUAUUUGAGAGCUGCUGAACCUUCUUAAAGAGAAGCCAACGAGUAUCACGAGGAUGAGCGAGAAAUAAGUUACGGCCUGAAUCGAGCAAAAAGGAGAUAGAAGAGACGCUUUUUGAAGAGUUAGUGAGAUUUAUCUUAACGUUCGAAUGAAGAAGAGGAUUGAAUAUCUCCGCCUAUGAGGGCAAAGCCGUAUAAAUAUCCAUUUAUGUAAAGAGAUUUAUUUUCUAGUAAAGUUUUCUAAAUGGAAUUGAAUCAGAAUCAACAUCUUUUUAUGCAUUCAUUACAUGCAUUCACAUUGCAUGACAUCAUAAACAUUAAAGUCUACUAAAAGAGCCUAAUCGAUUAAAAUCAUUCCUCAGUUAAUCUGGAAGCCAACCAGCCUACUAAACACCACUACGAUACUCGAUCAAAAACUAAGGACAUGGAUCAAAUGAUGGAAAGGCUAGAACAGGUCUAAAAGGAAAUGCAGGAGAAGCUUCAACAGCAAAUGAAUGAGCAGCAAAAAAUGAUAGACAAAAUGAUGAAAUCUCAAGGGAGUAUGAUGGCUCAGUUAACUCAAUGGUUGAACAAGGGAGCUGAUAAAGGAAAAGGCUCUGUGCUCAAUGUUGAAGAAGGUGACAAUGAGGGACCAGGCUUGACCCCUCAGCAUGGGCAGACCCAAGUAGAGGUAUAUCCACACAAAUCCUCUGUCACUAUCAAGCCUCAGCAGUUUCAAGUCAGUGCUAUAACACCAAUGAAUUUUCAAGCUAGAUCAGACCCUAACCCCAGAGAUGACCUUGUUAAUCCUGAUAUCCCUGACUUUGACGAAACAGCUGAAAAAGAGAAAAUGAAUGGUGAAUUGCCAAAACAGCUCAAAGAAAAGUAUAAAUGGCUGGAGGAAAAACUUAGAGCGAUGGGAAGUACUGAGGGCUACCAUGGAAUUGACGCUAAAGAAUUGAGCUUGGUUCCGGAUUUAGUACUCCCUUAUAAAUUCAAAAUGCCUGAGUUUGAGAAGUACAAUGGAACUAGUAGCCCCGAAGCUCAUAUUACCAUGUUUUGUAGGCGGAUGACUGGGUAUGUUAAUAAUGACCAACUGCUGAUACAUUGUUUCCAGGAUAGCCUCGCAGGGGCAGCAUCCAAGUGGUACAACCAACUGAGCCGUACCAAGAUUAAUUCAUGGAGAGAUUUAGCACAGGCAUAUAUAAAGCAGUACAAUCAUGUAACUGACAUGGUACCUGAUAGAAUCACUCUACAGAACAUGGAAAAGAAGCCUAGUGAAAGUUUUAGGCAGUACGCACAGAGUUGGAGAGAGGUUGCUGUCCAAGUCUAGCCAUCUCUUCUAGAAAGAGAAAUGACAAUGCUAUUCAUAAAUAUAUUGAAAGCUCCGUUCAUCACACAUAUGUUAGGGAGUGCAACAAAAAGCUUUUCUGACAUAAUCAUGAAUGGUGAAAUGAUUGAAAGCACCAUAAAGAGCGGAAAGAUUGAUGCUGGAGGAAAUAACAGAAGGAAAGCCUCAAAAGAAAAGGAAAAUGAGGUGAACAGCGUGAAUACGUACGGAAAAUCGAUUGCUAAUCAACAGGAUUCAUCAAGGCAAGAAUUAGGUGUGAAGCCAGGUACUGAAAAGCUCCAGUUCACGCCUAUUCCAAUGUCGUACAAGGAGCUGUAUCAAAGCUUAUUCAAUGCGCAUGUUGUUUCUCCUUUACAUGUGAAGCCUCCAUAGCCCCCGUAUCCCAAAUGGUAUGAUGCAAGUGCACAAUGUGAUUAUCAUGUAGGAAUUACGGGGCAUUCUAUAGAAAAUUGCAUUACCUUUGAAAAAGUGGUUGAAAGGCUUAUCAGUAUGGGCGUUGUCAAAUUUGGCGAUUCAUCUAGUGUAGAAAAUCUGCUACCCAAUCACAUUUGAUAAUGGGGGUGAAUGAGAUGUAUGAAGAAAUGUUGAGAGGCGUUCACAUUAAUGCCAUUUUUGAAGACACAAUUUACAAGGGUCCUUGGAGAUAUUCGCCCUUAUCAACUUAGAGGUGUCCUAAGUAAUUGAACUGCGGAAGAAAUCUCUGUAGUUUUUAGAGCUUAUUUAGAGUAAUGUUCAGAACAAUUUUGUUGUUUUUAGCCUAAAAAUGAUAAAAAUUCCUUUGCGAAAUAGGCUCAUGUCUAAACGUCAUUAUUCUAAUAAAAUACAUCUUUGCAUUCAUUUUUGAGCCAAUAUUUUUUCAUUCUUUUUGAAAUAAUUAUUCUUUCAUUCUUUUGGAUUUUCUUCCACAUCAUUCUUUCAUUCAUAAUUAUAUUGUACAAAUAAUUAUUCGUAAAUUCACACAUUCUUUUUAUAUAUUCUUUUGCGCUUACUAUGGGUCCCCAAAUAUCAAUAACAUGAGUGACGCUGCUACUGACUCAGAAUCUUCUUCUGAGCGAGACAUGUGUUUAGAGGGAUCUCAUGACUUUGAAGAUGACAUAGAUCGUAGCCUAUUUCUGUACCUGUUAAGGAUGGUAGAACAAGUCGAGAAACGGAUCUUACCCUACAAAGAAUCACUGGGAUACAUAACUUCUCUUUAUGUGGGGCAUGAAGGUUAUUUGGUCAAUCUAGCCAAAAGAGUCUGACGAUCAUCGAUUCAUCUUUGUGGUCAUCAAUUACUUUACUAAAUGGGUGGAAGCUGCUUCAUAUGUCAAUGUCACAAAGUCGACAGUUAGCAAAUUCGUGAAGAAUCAGUAUGGAACGCCAAAAGGAUCACAUCUGACAAUGUACUAAAUUUGAACAACAGCACAAUAUCAAAAGUUUGCAAUCUGUUCAUGAUUAAUGCCAUAUCGCCAAAAAAAAAUCUAUACCGGGGCAAAGUUUUUCUCUUGGGUCCAUCGCGGUUUUGUCUAUUAAAGAUAAGAUUCUUUCUCUCUGAGUUUUUGGAUCCAAUUCCGAUUGAAGAUGAAUGUUCAAAGUUAUCCAUCAUAAUCAAAUGCGCCAAAAGCAAAUGAUGCGAGCUCACAAAAAGGUCCGCUUUAGAGAAUUCCUCGAGAGGGACCUGGUAUUGAAGAAGACCCUUCCCAUGCAAAAAGAACUUUAUCCCAAGCUGGGAAGGACCUUAUGUAGAAGGCCUUAUUUAGAAAAGUGUCAAUUUUGAUCAGAAGGGAUAACAAGGGCAUGCCUAAUCCUAUGAGUUCAGAUUAAAUCAAAAAAUAUUUCAAAAUAAUAGCAAAGAAAAAGAAAAAAACAAAGAAAAAGAAAAAAGGAGAGGACAAGGUGAAAAUCUGCAAAAGACGCCUUGAGACCAAAGGUGGAUUUGAGUUAAAAACCCGAAAAGGGCGGCUCAAAUAUUGAUCAGAAUGGGGCAUGAAGUGAUGAGAGCAACUUAAAUUUUGAUCAGAUUGGGGCAUAUGAUGAUAUUGCUAUACUUGAACCAAUAGGAAAGGGUAGGCGACAUCUUGGGGCAUCGACAAAGCGCUGUAGAUCUCCUAAACUCAUGUCAAACUCAGAAUGGUCUUCAAAAAAUUUGUACAGAGAAGCUCAAGCUACGAUAUCUGGGGCACCCAAUUUUCAAACUAUUUAUGUUGAAUUUGUUGUUAUGGGAAUACUUCAUUCUUUUCCAAGAUACACAUUCCCAAUCAAUUUCUUUGUUAUCCUUCUUUACUAUUUUUGAUAAUUUAUUCCUUUUGAGCUAUGCUCAGAACUAACUUUAUUCUUAUCCAUUGUUAUGACAUUUUUGCAAGCAUGUUGCAUUGGAAUAAUGAUUAAUGGACUAAUAAAACUUCCACAAGGGAGGUUUUGCAUAUUACUCUAGAAGUUUCUAAAUAAUACAGGAACCUGAAACAGGACUAUUGUUUAGAAAGCACCAAGUUUAAAGGUUGGAAAUCUGAGAAGGAAGAGUCUAAAUUAAGACUUUCUCUUGGGAUUUUAUUGUCAAAAACAUUGAUUGAACAACAUGACAAGAUGUUAGUUUGGUGACAAAGCUUAAAUGAAGAAGCAAGUAAUGAUCACCAGACAAUAGGAAGAGGUUACCUCAGAGAAGAGAGUCUUUAUUUGAGCAUGAGUCUUUGGUACAACGCCUUGGGAAUGGUGUAAAGGACCAGAAAGAUUUAGAUCCUGUAUCCUUGAAUUGUUAUAGGAAAUGAUUAAGGAAAAGCCACAUAUUUUUACCAUUGGAUUACAGUGGGAGAAUGAUGGUACAAAUUUUGCACCCCAAUGGAUUAAACUUGGAGGUUCACAGUGAGGGGCAACCUAGCUAAAUGUUUCUUCAGAAAAGCCAGCCAAGUAAGAAGGUGUUGUAGCACGUCAGUCACAAAGCCUUAAUAAACUUCGAGUAAUGACAACCUAAGCGGGAUCAUUCUCGAAAAAAAUAAAAUUUUGCAUUCAUGCAAACACCAUUCACACAUGUCUAGUUAGGAGUAUUUGAUGCUUUUUAUCAUGCCAUCCUAAUCAUUAGGCAUAAUUAGGUUCAUUAUACAGGUCAUGUUCCCCAAAGAACAAAUCAGUGAAAAUAGCAGAUCUUACCUUCCUGCAUCGACAGCAAAGUAGAUCAAAAACAAAGCUUUGCCUUCCUCAGUUGUAGUGGAGCAGGUUAAAGAUAGCAGAUCUUGCCUUCCUGCAUUGACAGUGGAGUAGAUCGAAGAUGGAGGAUUUUACCUCCCUGUGGUUAUAGUGGAGUACAUUGAAGCCAGUAAUUCUACUUCCCUGGGAAACAGUAGAAUAGAUUGAAGAUUUCAGAUCUUAUCUCCCUAAGCAGUAGUGGAGCAGAUCGAAGAUGGUGGAUUUUACCUCCCUAUGGUUACAGCGGAGUACAUUGAAGCCAGUAAUUCUAUUUCCCUGGGCAACAGUGGAAUAGAUUGAAGAUUUCAGAUCUUAUCUCCCUAAGCAGUAGUGGAGCAGAUCGAAGAUGGUGGAUUUUAGCUCCCUGUGGUUACAGUGGAGUACAUUAAAGCCAGUAAUUCUACUUCCCUGGGCAACAGUGUAAUAGAUUGAAGAUUUCAGAUCUUAUCUCCCUAAGUAGUAGUGGAGCAGAUCGAAGAUGGCAGAUUUUACCUCCCUGUGGUUACAGUGGAGUACAUUGAAGCCAGUAAUUCUACUUCCCUGGGCAAGAGUGGAAUAGAUUGAAGAUUUCAGAUCUUAUCUCCCUAAACAGUAGCAGAGCAGAUCGAAGAUGGCAGAUUUUACCUCCCUGUGGUUACAGUGGAGUACAUUGAAGCCAGUAAUUCUACUUCCCUGGGCAACAGUGGAAUAGAUUGAAGAUUUCAGAUCUUAUCUCCCUAAGCAGUAGCGGAGCAGAUCGAAGAUGGCAGAUUUUACCUCCCUGUGGUUACACUGGAGUACAUUGAAGCCAGUAAUUCUACUUCCUUGGGCAACAGUGGAAUAGAUUGAAGAUUUCAGAUCUUAUCUCCCUAAGCAGUAGCGGAGUAGAUCAAAGAUGGUAGAUUUUACCUCCCUGUGGUUAUAGUGGAGUACAUUAAAGCCAGUAAUUCUACUUCCCUGGACAAUAGUGGAAUAGAUUGAAGAUUUCAGAUCUUAUCUCCCAAGAAAUAGCGGAGCAGAUCAAAGAUGGUAGAUUUUACCUCCCUGUGGUUACAGCGGAGUACAUAGAAGCCAGUAAUUCUACUUCACUGGGCAAUAGUGGAAUAGAUUGAAGAUUGUGAAUCCUAUCUCCCUUGUCAAUAGUGGAAUAGGUUGAAGAUUGAGAAUCCUAUCUCCCUGGUCAGCAGUGGAAUAGGUUGAAAGUAAACAAAUCCUAUCUCCCUAAAGUUAUAGUGGAGCGGAUUAAAAUGAUGGAUCUUAUCUCUUUGAAAUUACAGUAGAGCAGAUCGCAUCAAAUCCAUCUUUAUGCUGCAGUAGAUCAAGUUGAAGCUAUAAGUCUUAUCUCCCUGAAUUUGCAGUGGAGCAGAUUAAAAAUAGCAAAUUUUGAGAAACUACAAUGUACAAAUCCUAUCUCCUUGACAUUGCAGUGGAGUAGAAGAUGCAAUAGGAGAGAAUGAGGCUACUUGAAGAAGAAGAGUACCAAGAUCCAGCACAACCGGGCAAAAUUGAGCAUUUUUAAGUCUUUGCUCUGUUCCCACUAUGCGACAACGAGCAAAGAGGGGCAGCUGUAAUAGGCCCAAAUUGCCCGGGCCCGCAUGUAUAAACCAAAUAAAAUAAUAAAUAAAGGCCAACAAUUCCAAAGUCCAUUUACAUUUGUCCAAAAGACCCAAAUUACAUCAGCCCAAAUACAAUGUAACCCAAAACAAGCCUUCAGAAACCCUAGUAGCAGCACACGACCCCUAGCGCCGCAGCGGCCAGAAUUUCCUCUGCGGGAGUUGGCCUUCACGCGCGUGUGCACCUCCGUCCGUUGCUCCAGGCUGGCCUCCAAAUCUGCAAACAAACAGAAACAGCAGAAAAAGGCAACAAAAAUACGAGAAAAGGGGGAUAACAGAUUGGAUUUUGGAGGCAUUUUAUUUUGAUUUUUUCUGUAAUUCUGGCUAUAAAAAGCCAAUACGAAUAUUGUAAGAGGGACCGAAGGAAAUAAAAGAAAUACUGAAAAUACAGAGGAAUUGGAAGGUGAAUCGCGUCUUUUUUUGAUCUAAUCUCUGUUUCUUUACUUUUGAUUAUGUUUUACAAACAAAAUUAGAAAAUGAGGAAGGGGUUUUACCUUUGAAGCUUCGCCGUUGAAGCCCACACUCGCUUCGCUCCAAUUAGGAGCCUGGUGAAGGGCUGAGACCCGAAGAGCCUUUGAACGGCAGGCAAGUGGCGAUUUAGGGCGAAUAAUGAAACCCUAGCAGAGGGUGUUCUGCUUUCUUUUUAUUUUUAUUUCCUGCUGCAAAAAUGGUUCUUAGGAAGAAAAUCGUUUUAAAUAACAGUGGUGAAACGGCGCCGUUUAGGUGGUCAUGACCCGCGCGGUGACCUGACCCGGAGGGGAGGAUCCGCGCGUUCUGGCUGAAGGGGAAAUUUGCGCAAUUGGUCCCUCCCUUUUGUAACGCGCUUCAAUCAAACCUGUUUUGUUUUUUUUAAAUUGGACCGCAUAUUUAAUUUUUUGUUUCAAUUUGGCCCAUCGCUGCACAGCAUUUUGGAAGGCGGGGAUAAUUUCCUUUUGGUCCUCCACUGUUGUGCUCGCAUUCAAUUUAGUCCUGUCUUCAAAUUUAUUUCAAAUCCGCCCCACUUUUUUCGUUUUAAUUCAAUUUAGUCCAUUUUUAGUUAUUUUUAUUAUUAUUUUUUUAUGAUAUUGUCAUUAUACCAUUAUUAUUAUUACAUUAUUUACUAUCAUUAUUACUAUUGUACUUUCUAUACAUAUACAUACGCAUAUUUUAUAUAUAAUAUAUUCAUAUUUUUAACAUAGAUAUAUUUUUUUGAGCUUUUAUAAAUAUGCAUAUAUUUUAUAUAUACAUAUUUUUUUUAUUUUCCUAAUUUUUAUAUACUUUAUAUUUUAUCUAAUACAUAUACGUUUUAUAAUACACUUUCCGCAUUUUAUAAUUUAAAAUACACAUACGUUUUUUAAUAUUUUUAUGUACAUGUUUUUUAAAAAUCAUUAUAAAUAUUUUUAUUAUUUACAUAUUCUAUUAUUUUAUAUACAUAUUGUACAUAUAUACGUAUUUAAAUAUAUACGAAUGCAAAUUUUCAUGAUUUACCAAUACACUUAUACAUUUUUAUUUUUUAAAUAUAUAUAUACAUAUAUAUACUUUUUAUUUUAUUUUCACGAUUUUCAAAUACAUACCUGCAUUUUUUAUUAGUUUUUGAUUGAUAUGUUCCAUUCCAUCUUUAUAUGCAUCAUUGUAUAUGUGUGUUAAAUAUAUGUGUACACAUGUAUGCAAAUUUACUUACUGUACUUGUAUAUGUAUAUUCUGUAAAUAUUUAUUCAUAUAUGUUUUAAAUUGAGGUAUUUGUUUCAUAUUGUACAUUAACUUUUUAACAUACCUUUUAGGAAAUUUAUAUUUUGGUUUCAUCGAAACAUCAAAAUCAUUUAUCUUGAUUUAAAGGUUUUUUUUGAAAUAAAAGCAAUAUUCAAAGUUUGGGAUUUUCGAGGAAAUUGAGCCCUAACGUAUUGGGUUCCGAUUUUCUUUGUUAAUCUUAAAUAGCUGAGAGUAUUCUUUAUUCAAAAUGCAUGAGUAUAAAACUUGUCAUCGGGAAUUCAAUAUGUUGUGUCCUAACGUAUUGGAUGUGACACGUUGAUUUCUCGAGAUAAAGAUUUCUUUUUAAAAAAAAUAAAAUGAUAAAGGAAAUAUUGAAUGUUUGGGAUUUUAGGAAAUUGUGCCCUAACGUAUUGGGCCGCGAUUUCUUCAUAAAUUUUAAAAAAUUAAAUAUUUUCUUAAGUUUUAUUACACAAGUUUUUUUGGACCAACUCGUCUUGAAAAUAAUAAAAUAUUGUGCCCUAACGCAUUGGGUGUGAUAUUUUCCUUUUUCAAAAUGAGAAAGUCUUAAUAAAUAAUUUAAUUUAACUAAGGAUCAUAUUUAUUAACUCUCGACAUUAAGACACUAAUUAAUCAAUUUGGUAUCAAAUUUUGGGCAUUACGAGGGUGCUAAUCCUUCCUCGUACGUAACUGACUCCCAAACCUAUUUUUCUAAAACUCGUAGUCCAAAAUCAAUUUAGGUGAUCCAAUCACACCUCAAUAAAAGAUUGGUGGCGACUCCCAAUUUUUGUUUUUUUAAGUCGACAACUAAAUUUUUAUUUUUUUCCAAAAAAAAAAAUUGUUUAAACAAAUCCUUUACCCCAGACUCUAAAAAACAUCACUUACCAGAAAAUACUGGUACAAACAAUUCUUAUCAAUGCACAGUACAUUUGGAACAUAUCAUAAAAGUACCUGUAUCAUUGUCAGAUGCAUCACGGCUCGCUUGAUACCUAGUUGCAUAUCCCCAUCUCGGAUUUUGUUUCUAUGCCGAAGCUUGUACCUAACUAAAAUAGUGUCGUGAGUAAUCCCAAACUCGAUACUCAACAGACCCACAUAUGAAACACGCUCCCAUUUUCCUCCAACAAUCGUCCGAAUGGUGCCUAUCACAGUAAGUACAAAUCAGAACCUCAACCGCAUUCACAAUUGCCUCACCCCGUUGAAGCCUGUCUAUUUUAGCCCGUUUCCUUGGUCAUGGAUUCAAGUAAAUAGAACCAUCACUCAUCUUAUUUCGCACUUUAUUCAUUACUUAUUCUCUCCCUCUGAGCAAUUACUCUCUACCGCUAACUUGACUUGAUACGCUUGAGGUCACUCAAUCACAGACUCUUGUCCCAUAUAUCCAAAUUGAGUUCCAUCGACCCUUUGCAAAUCUCUAAACACCUCUUGGAACACUGAAACAUCCCCUACUUCUAAACUGCCCUCAGAUUUGGGCGUCAUAGUAAACUUAUUUAUUUUCAAAUUGGGCUUACUGCCCUGAGAAGAGAACUUGGAUAGAGUCACCCGGCUAUGUCCACCACGCCCUCGCACAUCAUGACCUCGAGUACUUAUUAUACUAAUCUAGAGUUUGAGAAAUUUUAUGAAUUAGUUUAGGUUUAUUAAAAAUCAUAAGUCUAGAGUUUUAUCAAAGUUUCUUACAUAAUUACCAUAGUCUUUAGCUAGAGUAGAGUAAUCCUAGCACUAAAGUUUUGCUAGUUUGUCUAGUAUAGCUAAAGUAAAGAUACUUACAGGAUUGACGAUGUAGUUUUGGAUUCUCUUUUUAUAGAAUCAAAUAUAAAAAUAAUCAAAAUCUAGAUACCCAUUUUAGAAACCCAAAGUAUCAAAAUUAAUCAGAAAUUCAAUUUAUUUAAAGCAUAUUUAAUGGAGAUUUUUGAACCCAAAAAUCACAGCUCGAGUUUUGUUACCUUGCUCUGAUACCAGUAAAUGUAACAUCCCAAACUUGGCCUAGACGUUAUGGCCAAAUCUGGAAGGUUACAUCUGUACGAAAAAAAUUAUUUUUCCAAAGUGUGUUUUGUUACGAAAUUGAAAACCAAAGUUUAUGUAAGUUCGUCAUGAUUCCCCGAUAGGAAAAUUUGUAAAUUGUCAAAACGUAAAUGUGAACAUAUUAAUUAUUAACUUAAAAAAAACCUAGCCUUAUACAAUCAAAAUGCUAAAAUCAUUUGCUUUGUAAAACUUGUAAUUUUGACUAAAAUUUUUGCAACGACAAUUCCAAACUAAUAUUCAUAAAUUGUAAUUUCGUCAAGUAAAAAAGUUUUAUUUAGCUGAUUGGGCAUAUUUUAAAUUUACGUUAUUAAAUUUUGUAAAAUCUCAAUUCAUAUUUUUGUGGCAAAAAAAUCUUGGCUCGUAUAAUUUUGAAAACUCAACAUUGAUUGUUGAGUAACACAAAACAUACUGAACAAAAAACUUUAACUAAGCCAAAGAAACCCAAAGCAAAAUUAAAUUUGAGAAAUUAAACCAAAACCAAAAGUCCAGUAAAUCCAUUUAUUAACCAGAGUAAACCAUUUAAUUAGAGAAUCAAUUCGAGCUUCCGCACACUGCCCGAUUCUAACUUAUCGAUUAUCUAAAACAUCAGAAAUAAAACAAAUGGGUGAGCUAUAAAGCUUAGUGCAUAACUAAAACUCAAGCCGAGAUCACACACAAUACAAUAUACAAAUCAUAAAAUCAUAGGAAAUUUCAUAACAAUCAGUCAAACAGAAUUGAGCAUACAUGAUUAUGCCAAUGCGGUAGUUUUCAAAAAAUCAUAAUGCAAAUUUUUUCAGAAAACAUCCUACCCAACACCACUACACACCCGAAUAUAGUUCCCCAGAACUCGUCCAUCUAAAAACACACCAAUUAAGUCAUCUCAGGUUGCCCGAAAACGAUGACCUACCACCUCGAGUUAGUCGGCAAUGAUGACUUAUCAAUAUGCAGUUAAACUACCAUAUCAUAUAUUUGUGGUCAAGUGAUUGUAUUGCGGCUUAGCUGCCAGAUCAAAGGUUCCUAGUGUAGUCCCUAACAUUAUCAGGUGUUCUCGGCUCAGUCCUUUGGACGUUAAACAAAUAGAUUUGGAUAUCCAAUUAAUCAUAAAUUGCCAGGUGGUAUAUGCUGAAGUCACGAUAACAUCAUCAUCAAGAAAAAGCCAAAAAAAGCUUUAAAAAAUAUCAUAAAAUUCAAAUAAACUUAUAUAAAAUUAACUACAUUAUAAAUAUAUAAUUGUUCAAAAAAAUAAAAAUUCUUAUUUUUUUUUAAAUUUGUAAAAAAUAAUAAAAUUAUUAGAAAUUGUUAAAUAUUGUAAAACCAUUAUAAAAAUUAUUAGAAUCAUAAAAGACGGUAAAAAAUAAAAAGUUAAAAUACUAGUAAAAAUUGUCUAACUUGAAAUAAAGUAUACAUUUGGUAAUCAAAUUUAAAAUAUGGAAAAUUUGAUAUUAAAAAUGUAUAUAGUAAUACAAUCAAUUUUUAUAAAAAAAUAUUUUAAAAUAUUUUAAUAAAAAUCGAAUAAAUUUUAUAUCAAUUUUUUAAUAUUUUAAAAUACAUCAAUUUUUAGUACUUUACCAACGUUACUGGCAGCAAGUUUUUUUGACUCGAGUCCUUAUUUUUUGUCUUAAGUAGCUUCCUGCAUCUACCAUUUUGCACAUGGUUUUUCUAUUUUAUACCAAAGCUCUUUAGAAUAGUUAAACAUUCGACAAUAGUUCUUAAGAUAUUAGUUUAGAGACAAAUAAUUAUCUUGAGAUAGUAAAAAAAAUGAAAUAAUUAAAUAUAUUAUUUACUAGAAAUAAUAUUAUUUUUCAUUAUUUAAAUUAUUUGAGAAAAAAUUUAUUCAAGUUUAUCACGUAAAAGAUCUACCAAUUAUAAAUUCUGAUUAGUUGAACCAUAAGACAAUUGUUCUAGGUAGUAUCCUUCCAAGAGACAAUUAUCACAUGUUUAAACUCUAGUCAAUGUGAUUUAUAAAAUUUUAAAAAUAUUAAAAUAUCUAAUAUAUUUUUGAAAUUUAUGUAAUUUUUUAUAUUUUACAUAGUUUUUUUUGUAUUUUUUAAUUUUAGAUUUUUUCUAUUUUUAAAUAAUUUUGAUAAUUUUGUAAUUUUUCUUUUAUAAUUUUUGUCAUUUUUGAAGAUUUUUAAGGGUUUUUGUUGAUAAUGUCAUUAUGAUAUCAUCGUACGACAUGUGGUAGUAUAUGAUUGGUUGAAUAUCCCAAUGAAUUUUUUAUUGUCCAAUGAACUAAACUGAAAAUGUUUAAUAACAUUAGGGGCUGAAGUGGAUAAAAAUAUUUUAAAGACUAAAGUUAAAAAAGUGAUAUACUUGAGGGACACAGGAUCAACAUUUUCUAAAAGAUGGAAGUGUUUUUCAAUUUUUAAGGGAAUAGAAUUUUUUUGAGUGAAUAUAGAUUUGUGAGGGAGUAGUAAUAUUAUUAUUAGAGACAAGGCAUUUGAUUUUUAUAUAACUUUUUUAAUUAAGUCAAUAUCACUCAUUGAGUAAAACCCAACAUAUUAAGCACAUUAUUAUACUAAUUUAGAUUAAUAGGAAUGAUCAAAUUUACAAUUAAGGAUUAUAAAUUUAUUUAAUUCCAAUCUUCUACCUUUUUUUUAAGUUAUAAGAAUGGUUUUGCCUUAUAUUUUCUCCAAAUUGAGAUUUAAUUUAUAAUUUUAAUUUUGAUAUAAUUUAGUUUCUCAAUUUUUAUAAUACAAUUAAUUAGUUUAAAUACUUUAUUUUAAUCAAAAUGAUUAUAUUAAUUUUAAAGCAUUGUUAUCACUAUUAAAAUUCUUUACUAACAAUUAUUUAAAAUUAAGGUCUAUUGCUUUUGUUUUAGCUUACAUAUAGAUGUUUACAAUAUAAAAUUCUUUGUAAUUUUCAAUACAUAUUGCUUAAAUAAAUAGAAAAAGGAGUUUUAAUAAUGCACAACCAAAUAAUUUUUAUUGAUGUUAUAUUAUUUUGAUUUCUUAGACCUGUAUAUAGGGAAAAUAAAGUACUAUUGCCAUUUAAUCACUUUAAAACAAUUUUAAUGGGCUCUAGUCAUGCAAGAUUACCAUUAAAUUGAAUACUCAUAUAGAAGGAUUUAAUAUUUUUGUUUCUCAAAUCACAACUAAUAGUUAUUCAUAAUUUCUUAUUCAGUGUCAUUUUUAAGAUUGAUUAGAUGACAAAUUUUCAUGCCAAAGUUUUAUUUUUAUUUGAUUUAAAGUUUUACAAUAUUUAAAAAAUUAUAUAUUUUGUAAAUUUGAUAUUCAAUCAAUUUUAGAUGAUUUCAACCCAAGGCCUGAGCUAAGAAUAGUUUUAGUUUGGAGUACAAUAUAUAUACUAAAAGAUGCAAUUUUUACAAAUAACUUACAAAUCUAUGAUUAAAUCAAAUACUGGUAUGAAAUGGUUUAAUUAUUUGAUCAUAUUUUUCCAUGCUAAAAUUUUAUUUUUAUUUGAUUUAAAAUUUUACAAACUUUAUAUUGUGAAUUUGGUGUGCAAUGAAUAUGUGUACUAAAAGAUGUAAUUUUACAGGUAAUUUAUCACCCAUCACCAGUGCUGCAAAGCUUGAGAUUCUUUUAUUGUGGGGAAAUAAACUUAGCGGAAACAUUCCCAACUCUAUCUCCAAUGCUUCCAUGCUUAAGAAACUAGACUUGGCAGAUAAUUUAUUCUGUGGCCACAUCCCUAAAACGCUUGACAACUUAAGACACCUUGAAUGGUUCCAAAUUUCAAAUAAUAAUUUGAUCAGAGGACCUGCUACUGAUCAUGAGUGGACCUUUCUUUCUUCUUUGGCAAAUUGCAAGCAUUUGAGAAUAAUAGAUGUUUCAAGAAAUCCAUUGAGUGACGUUCUUCCAACUUAUAUCGGGAACUUUUCAAAAUCCCUUCAAUACUUUUAUGCCUCAAUUGUGAGAUUACAGACAAUAUUCCUAUGUAAAUAGGUAGCUUAAGCAACCUAUUGCUUUUACAACUUGGCUAUAAUAAAUUAAGCGGAUUUAUUCCAACACCAGUAGGAGGACUGCGAAUUUGCAAGGCUUACAACUUUCCUCUAAUAAAUUAGAGGGGCCUAUAUCAGAAAGCCUUUGUGGUUUGGAGAGAUUAUACUACUUGUAUUUAGGGCUGAUGGAUCCAUACCGUCUUGUUUGGGUAAUAUUUCUUCUUUGAGAUAUCUUUACUUAGAUUCCAACACACUGAGUUCUACAAUACCCUCAACUUUGUGGAAUCUUAAAGAUAUCUUAGAAAUAGAUUUAUCAUCAAACCAUCUUUACAAUUCACAUGCCAUUGAUGUUGGAGAUUUCAAAAGUCUACUAAAACUAAAUUUAUCAAGAAAUUUUAUCACUGGCGAUAUCUUAUCCACAUAUAGGGGUCUUCAAACUUUGAUUUCAAUAGAUUUAUUAAAUAAAAUACUACAUGGUCAUAUCCCUAGAUCAUUAGGUGGUUUGAUUAGUUUGGAAUUCUUGAAUUUAUGCAAUAACAAUCUCUCUGGAGCCAUUCCCAAAUCUUUGGAAAAGCUUUUAGAUCUAAAGUAUUUUAUUGUGUCUUUCAAUAGACUUGAAAGGGAAAUUCCCACCGAAGGAUGUUUUUCAAACUUUUCUAGCACAUCAUUCAUGAAGAAUUUUGCACUUUGUGGUCCACCUAGAUUGCUAGUCCCACCUUGAAAAAAUGACAUCCAAGAAAACUCCCAAAUGAAUAUAUUGCAUGCUUUAAGGUAUGGUUUACCAACAAUUGGUAUUGUCGCAGUGCUAAUACUCUUAACUAUUAUGUAUAGAAGAUGCCAAAGUAGGAGUACAACUCUACCAAUUCAGGAUGAUUUGUUGUCUUUGAAAACGUUGAGAAGAAUUUCACAUGCUGAACUUUCACAAGCAACUAAUGGAUUUGAGGAAAACAAUAUGCUUGGUUCAAGGAGUUUUGGAUAUGUAUAUAAAGAGAGAUUUUCAGAUGGAAUGGAAGUUGCAAUAAAAGUUUUCAAUUUGCAAACAGAAGAAGCAUUUAGGAGUUUUUACAUUGAUUGUGAUGCUAUGCGUAAUAUAGAUCAUCGUAAUAUUGUGAAGGUCACUACUUGCUGCUCAAGUGUUGACUUCAAAGCCUUGGUGCUUGAUUACAUGUCUAAUGGAAAUAUUGAGAAAUGGUUAUAUUAUUAAAACUAUUUCCUUGAUAUCAUACAAAGGGUUGACAUAAUGAUAGACGUUGCGGCAGCUAUAGAACAUCUCCACAACGGGCAUCCAACACCUAUAAUUCAUUGUGACUUAAAACCAAGCAAUAUUUUACUAGAUGAAGACAUAGUUGCACAUGUGGGAGAUUUUGGCGUUGCCAAAUUGUUGGGAGAAUGUGAUGUAAUGAAGCAGACCAUGACUCUUGCAACAAUCGGGUAUAUGGCACUAGGUGAAUUCUUUUAUUUUUGUAUGAUUAUUUUUCUAAUAUGCAUUUUAUAUUUUGUUUCAUGUGUAUGUGGAUAUAUAUUUGAAUAAUCAUUUUAGAAAUAACUAAAGAUUAAUGAUGCACUAAUUUUACUUGAAAUGCAAAAUUUGGAUCAACGGGAAUUGUUUCUAUAAAAUGUGACGUCUAUAGUUAUGAGAUUGUCCUUAUACAAACUUUCACAAAGAAAAAGUCAACUGAUAAUCUUUUUGCUGAAGAAGUGACUAUAAAGCAUUGGAUGGAAAGUUCAUUGCCAAAGGAGCAUGAAAAUCCCCAAAACCUAAAUUCUUUCCUUCUAGCAAUGAAGAGAUGGUGAGGGGAAGGGGACAAAAUCACGUCAAACGAAAAGAAAAAGAAAAGAAAAAGAACAAAAUUAAAUUUGACGUGAAAAUUGUUUUAAUACUUUUAAUUUGAGUUGGAAAAGGUUAAUGACGUGGCAUAAAAUAAUUGGAUAGGACCAUAUUUGAGGUAGUGGGAAAGGUCCAUGAAACAAAUUUUCUAUGUUAUCAAAUAUAUGAAUGAUAGUUAUUGGGAUCAAACUAAUGAUUUUGAGGAUGAUAAUGGUUAAUUUGGUGCUGAGGGUGGAAAAGAAACAAAUAAUUCAUUAUAUGUAAUAUAAUUAUGCAAUUCAAGUAAUAUAUAGUAAGUUUCAUACAAGGUUCAAAGGCAAUUAAAUGACUUGUAAGUUUGUUGAAUUUCUUUAAAACGCCCAAAGGCAAUUGAACAUUUACAAAAUAGUCUCUAAAUACUAUAGACACAAAUCAAAUCCAUGGGAGCAUUACAGUUGGUUAAAUUGAUUAAAUUGAGUAUUGGCAGAAAUUCCAUCAUAGGAAAUAUUGGCAAAAUCGUGUAUUGAAUUAGAAAAACAACAUAAUCCAUGAAACAUAGAUAGCCCAAUACAAAUGUCAUCGAGACAAAAAGUCUUUUUGUUUUAUAGCACAUGAUAGUAAAGCAUGCGAAGUUUCAUUUUCUUAUUGGCCUUCUUUAGUUUUCCUUGAUCAUCAACCACUAGCCAAAAACACAAUUAGAUUAGAUUAUAAAUGAAAUAUUCAAUUAUGAUAAAAUUAAAUAGAAAACGCCCUAAAUAACUCUAAAUAAAUGAAAAGUAGCAAAUUACCUGGUGAGACAAACUAGCUCAAUUAAAACCAUUGUGUUAGACUUGUCUAUGCAUUAAACAAUCUAAAAGGAAAUGAAGAAAAAGACUCAGAAAACACUUGAAAAUUGACAAAAUUUAUAUUCCAUUGACUGGUUAAACUAUGAUCACCCAUAACAGACCUUGUAUUUGAGUUUUUGUUGAGGGAGAUCAAGUCCUUCAAAAUAUGUCUUCUGAGUGCUGUUUGCUAGGUAAUCGCUGCUACCCUUAACAACUAAAGAUAUUAAUGUCCCCAUGUCAAGAUUUUAUCUCAGCCUUUACGGAAUAAUCAUGGAGAUUACAAGUGCAAGGAUUCAAACCACCAACCAAUGCAUAUGUAGCAUUUACCUUGGAUCCAUCUCCAUGAACCCACAAGGUUCUUCGUGGAAUCAAGAGACAAAACCCCAACACAAGAAUAAUACCAUCUAUUGAGGGUCCGUUAACACAACAAAUGAAAUUCAUACAUUUUUUUAAUCAAAGUAAAUAUCAUAUAUAAUUGGGGGAAAGCAACAAUAAAAUCCUUAGCAAAAGAUUAAAACACAGUUAUAUCGUAAAUGACAUAAGAAACCAAGAAAAUCCAAUCUAACAAAGAAAAUAACUUGAUACUCCAAAGCUACCAUAUACCGUAAUUCAUGGGAAGGUCUGAUGCUUAGUUUAUUGGUUUCCAUCUUGAUUUUGCAAAAGAUGUUUGAAUUCUGAAGAGAGCAAAUGAUUGAGCGAAAGAAAAAAAAAUAAGAAAAAAAAAUGAUUGAGCAAAUGAUUUUGCAGUCUCCUCGGUAGUGGUAUAAAAAUUUUGACUCCUUCAUGUUGAGUACUAUUUUUUCUCGAAUUAAGUAUGACAGUUAUGUUUACCUAUAAUGUCUUGAUGGUGGUUCUUUUAUAUAUUUGUUUCUUUAUGUUGAUGAUAUGUUAAUUGCAACUAAAAAUCCAUUUGAAAUUGAUCGUUUUAGAUCAUGCUUAGCUCUAAGUUCGAUAUAAAGGAUUUACGUGCAGCAAAGAAAAUUUUGGGGAUGGAAAAUUUGAGAGAUAGACAUUUUGGGAAAUUAUUUUUAUCGCAAUAAAAGUACAUCAUGAAGAUACCCAAGUGAUUCGAGAUGCAAGAUUAAAAACUGGUAAGUAAACCUUUAACUGCACACUUUAAACUCUCAAUUUCAGAUUCCCCACAGCAUGAAGAAGAUGAAAGGUACAUGUCAAAAGUACCUUAUUCAAGCACAGUUAGGAGUUUGAUGUAUGCAAUGGUAUGCACUCGUUCCAAUAUUUCAUAUUUUGUUAGUGUUGUUAGUCGAUACAUGGCCAAUCUCAGUACACUGACAUGUAGUUAACUAGAUUUUUAAAUAUUUGUGGGGUACUUCUAACAUGUGCUUAGAUUUCGAAAGAAAUCAAAAGGGUUUAGUCGGAUAUAUUGAUUCAGAUCAUGCAAGAGACUUAGAUCGAAAAAGGUCUCUCAUAAGUUACCUAUUUACUUUUGGGAAUUGUGUUGUUAGUUGGAAAGCUACACUACAAUCUAUAGUGGCUUUGUUAACCAUCGAAGUAGAAUACAUGGAAAUUAUUGAAUCAGUAAAAGAAGCAAUUUGGUUAAAUGACCUAUUUAAUGAACUAGUAAGUUAAAAAGGGGCAACUGUCGUAUAUGAUGAUAGUCAAAGUGUUAUUCAUCUCACCAAAGAUCAAAUGAUCAUGAAAGAAUGAAGCAAAUAGACAUUCGUUAUCACUUUGUUCAAUAGGCGAUAAUUUAAGGAAUGCUCAGAUUUUUAAAAUUGACACAAAAAAUAAUCCGACCGACAUAUUAACAAAAAGUCUUCCAAUUUCAAAGUCCAAGCAUUACUUGGACUUGGUAAGUAUUUGACGAAGAUUCAAGUAGGCCCGUAACAAGGCUUGGAAAAAGAGUUAAGUCAAAUACGAGUUAAGGUGGAGAUUUGUGGAGUUAUGCCUCACAUUUUUGGAUCAAACAGUGUGUGAUGUCGCAACGAGGAAGUGUUCUUCGUCUCAACAAACAGUUGACGUCACGACGAGAAGAGAGCUUUUGUCUUGAUGACACGAUGACCCUUCGUCUUGACAACACAAUGCCACAUCACGACGUGGCGACAUGUACCUCAAGUUUUUCGGCUUUCUUCUCCUAGUUAAACUCUAUUUUUAGUUUUCCAUUUAAACUUUGAUUAACCUAGGGUUGUUGUACUCAUAUAUACUACGAAUUUCAGCUUAUAAAUAGGCAUUAGUUACUCUAUGUUUUAUAUAACAAAAAUAUUUAAAUUGAAAGAAUUAUGUUCUUUGUUUUGUAAGGUUUAUUCUUGCGGGGCCUUUGGGUUUUCCUUUAACUCUCUCUAUCUUUUAUACUCUCCUUUAUUAUAGUGAAAUCUCCUUUUGCCUAUGGUUUUUUAUCCUCUUUUGAGGAGCUUUUCCACGUAAAAUUUGUGUGUUUGAUCUUUUAGAUAUUAUUUUUUUCACUUGUUCGUUGCAUACACGGGUUAAUUUUGAACAAAAUAUUUCACAUAUUAGUUAGUUUGUCUUUAAAUCUACUUCUUGGCAACUUAUUUUGGAUCAAUUUUUGCAUGUCCGUGAAAUAACCAAGAAUUUAGUGUUUGUUAGUAAAUUUGCUAGAGAUAAUUUGGUGUUUUUCGUGUUUUAUCCCACUCAUUUCUUUAUUAAGGAUGAGACUAUCGGUGAGGUUCUUCUUUGAGGUCUUGAAAAAGAUGGAUUGUGUACAAUUCUUACUGAUGAGUGCUAUCAUGAAGUUGUUUCUGAUUGCAGGUCUCUGUUACCUUUGGCAUCCACUCAACAAGUUUAUUAUACUCACACUAGCGAUCUUGAAGAUCAAUCUCGUGUUUCAAAAUACUAGUUGUGACAUUAAUGUCUCGACCAUCCAGCUAAACGUGUCUAGAGCGUGGUCUUAUCCUCUUGUAAUAAAAUUAUUCAUGAGAAUCAUGAAUGUUCUUUUUUGUACUGCUACCAUGUUGGCAAAAUUCAUAAAUUAUUUUUUCUUCAUCAAACGUUGAGUAUCAGAAACUCAGUUUACAGAAACAAGGUUUCGAGACCACUUUUUUUGAUAACUACUGAAAAUCGGGUCGUUACAAAAAAUACAAAAGAAGAAAAAACAUGUUUAGACAAGCCAAGAGCCUUUGGCUUUGCUCCAACAAUAGGAGACAUAAGAGUUGUGUUAUCAAAUAGAUGAAUGCCAAUCAUUGCGAUCAAACCAGUGAUUUUGAUGAUGUUAAUGGUUAUUUUGGUGGAGAGGUAGGAAAUUAAUCAUUAUAUAUAAUAUAAUUAUGCAAUUCAAGCCCUAUAUUGUAUGUUCACACAUAAAAAUUUCAUGGGAGGUCCAAAGUCAAUUAAAUGACUUGUAUGCUUGCUAAAAAUUUUUGAAAGGACCAAAGGCAAUUGAACAUUCAUAAAAUAGUCUCCAAAUACUAUAAAGACAAAUAAAAUCCACAUGAGCAUUAGAGUUGAUUAAGCUGCGCAUUAGCAGAACUUCCAUCAUAGGAAAUAUUACUUGGCACUUGGUAGUAUAUAUGUAGACUUUGACUUUGCAUUCAAUAUUGGCAAAAUCACCUCUUGAGUUAGAAAAACAACAUAAUCCAUGAAACAUUGAUAGCCCAAUACAAAUUUCAUGUAGAAAAAAGUCUUUGUUUUGUAGCGCAUAAUAGUAAAGCAUGCGAAGUUUUAUUCUUCUUAUUGGCCUCCUUUAGUUUUCCUUGAUCAACAACCACUAGCCAAAAACACAAUUAGAUUAGAUUAUAAAUGAUACCUUCAAUUAUGAUAAUAUUAAAUAGAACACACCCUAAAUAAAUCUAAAUAAAUGGAAAGUAGCAAAUUACCUGGCAAGGCAAGGUAGCUCAGUUAAGACCAAUGUGUUAGAAUUGUCCCUGCAUUGAACAAUUUAGAAGAAAAUGAAAAGAAACACUCAGAAAACUCUUGAAAACAGAUUAAACUUAUAUGUCAUUGCUUGGAUAAACUAUGAUUACCCAUAACAGACCUUGUAUUUGACUUUUUGUUAAGGGAGAUCAACUCUUCAAGAGAAGUCUUCUAAGUGUUAUCUGCCAGGUAGUUAACGUUGCCCUCAACAACAAAAGGUAUUGUCCCCAUGUCGAGAUUUUAUUCCUAGCCUCUAUAGAAAAAUCAUGAAGAAUAUGUGCUAAGGGAUUCACACCACCAACUAAUGUAUAUGUAACAUUUUCCUUGCAAUCAUCUCCGUAAACCCAUAGAAAUCUUUGUGGAAUCAAGAGACAAAACCCUAACACAAGAAUAAUACCAUUUGUUGAAGAGUCUGUCAAAAUAAUAAAUGAAAUUUAAAUACAUAGUUUUUUUAAUGAAAGAAAAUAACUUAUUUAAUUAGAGAAAAACAACAAAAGAUCCAACAAUAAAGUCCUUAGCAAAAGAUUAAAACAAAAUUAUACCGUAAUGAAAUAAGAAACUAAGAAAACCAAAUCUAACAAAGAAAAUAACUUGAUGUCCCAAAGCUACCAUAAACCGUAAUUCAUGGGAAGGCCUGCUACUCAUUUUAUUGGUUUCCAUCUUGAUUUUGCAAAUAAGUUUGAAUUCCGAAGAGAGCAAAUGAUUGAGCAAAAGAAAGAAAAUUAGUUUAUUAUUUUUCACUAUUUAUAAGACAAUCUUCAAGGAGACUGAUACCGACAUAUUUGAUAUCUAUAAUUAAACUGCUAGAAUAGAUUAAAAAUGUUGAUAAAAUUAAGUGUGAAUUAAUAACCACAAGUGUACUCAUUACUCACCAUCUUUGUUAAACAUGUUUGAUGUUGUUUAGCAACCUCUGUUUGAUCUUCUUUAGCUCAACCACAACAUCUUUCAUAUCUUUUCUUUCUUCUGGUAAUUCAGUUGAACAAUUCAAAGCCAACUCCAUGAUGGAUGAAAUACAAUUUGCUUUAACAAUAAAGAACUCAUCCUCUCUUUUUAAUAAAUCAACAUCUGCAAUUUCUACCGCUCCUUUAGGCAAUGAACUUUCCAUCCAAUGCCUUAUAGUCCUUUCUUCAGCAAAAAAAUUAUCAGUUGGCUUCUUCUUUGUGAAAGUUUCUAUAAGGACAAUCCCAUAACUAUAGACGUCACAUUUUACAGAAACAAUUCCUGCAGAUCCAAAUUCUGCAUUUCAAGUAGAAUUAGAGCAUCGUCAAUCCUUAAUUAUUUCUAAAGUGAUUAUUCAAAUAUAUAUCCACCUACGCAUGAAACAAAAAUAUAAAAUGCAAAUUAGAAAAAUAAUAAUACAAAAAUAAAAAAUUCACCUGGUGCCAUAUACCCAAUAGUUGCAAGAGUCAUGGUAUGCUUCAUUAAGUCACCUUCUCUCAACAAUUUGGCAAUGCCAAAAUCUCCCACAUGUGCAACCAUGUCUUCAUCUAGUAAAAUAUUGUUUGGUUUUAAGUCACAAUGAAUUAUAGGUGUUGGAUGUCCAUUGUGGAGAUGUUCUAUAGCUGAUGCAACAUCAAUCAUUAUGUCAACCCUUUGUAUGAUAUCGAGGAAAUGGUUUUUAGAAUGUAACCAAUUCUCAAGAUUUCCGUUAGACAUGUAAUCAAGCACCAAGGCUUUGAAGUCAACACUUGAGCAGCAGGUAAUGACCUUCACAAUAUUACGAUGAACUAUAUUACGCAUAGCAUCACAUUCAAUGUCAAAACUCCUAAAUGCUCCCUCUGUUUUCAAAUUGAAAACUUUUAUUGCAACUUCCAUUCCAUCUGGAAGCCUCCCUUUAUAUACAUAUCCAAAACUCCCUGAACCAAGCAUAUUUCUUUCCUCAAAUCCAUUAGUUGCUCGUGAAAGUUCAGCAUGUGAAAUUCUUCUCGGUGUUUUCAAAGACAACAAAUCAUCUUUAAUUGGUAGAGUUGUACUCCUUCUUUGGCAUCUUCUAUACAUAAUAGUUAACACUAUUAGUAGUACGACAACACCAAUUGUUGGUAAACCAUACCUUAAAGCAUGCAAUAUAAUCAUUUCAGAGUUUCCGUGGAUGUCGUUUUUGCAAGGUGGGACUAGCAAUCUAGGUGGACCACAAAGUGCAUAAUUCUUCAUGAAUGAUGUGCUAGAAAAGUUUGAAAAACUUCCUUCAGUAGGAAUUUCCCCUUCAAAUCUAUUGAAAGACACAUUAAAAUACUUUAGAUGUAAAAGCUUUUCCAACGAUUUGGAAAUGACUCCAGAGAGGUUGUUCUUACAUAAAUCCAGGGAUUCCAAAUUAAUCAAACCACCAAAUGAUUCAGGGAUAUGACCAUGUAGUUUAUUAUUUGAUAAAUCUAAUGUAACCAAAGUUUGAAGACUCCCAAAUGUGGAUAAAAUAUCGCCCAUGAGAAGAUUCCUUGAUAAAUUUAGUUUCCCUAGACUCCUCAAAUUUCCAACAUCAAUAGCAUGAGAAUUGUGAAGAUGGUUUGAUGAUAAAUCUAUUUCUAAGAUAUCUUUAAGAUUCCACAAAGUUGAGGGUAUUGCCGAACUCAAUUUGUUGGAAUUUAAGUAAAGAUAUCCCAAAGAAGUAAUAUUACCCAGACAAGAGGUUAUAGAUCCGUACAGCUUAUUCAACCCUAAAAACAAUUUGUAUAGACUCUCCAAAUCACAAAGGCUCUCUGAGAUAGGCCCUUCUAAUUUAUUAGAGGAAAGAUCUAGACCUUGGAGUUUUCGCAGUCCUCUUAUUGAUGUUGGAAUAAAUCCACUUAACUUAUUAUAGUCAAGUUCUAAACGCAACAUGUUGCUUAAGUUACCUAUUUCCAAUGGAAUAUUGCCCAUAAUCUCACAAUCAGAGGCCACAAAGUCUCGAAGGGAGUUUGAAAGGUUCCCGAUAUAAGUAGGAAGAACACCACUCAAUGGAUUUCCUGACACAAUUAUUCUUUUCAGAUGCUUGCAAUUCGCCAAAGAAUAAAGAAAGGUCCAGUCAUGAUCAAUAGCAGAUCCUGCAAUCAAAUUAUUGUUUUGGAUAUGAAGGCAUUCAAGGUAUCUUAAGUUGCCAAGCAUUUUAGGGAUUGGGCCAGAAAAUAAGUUAUUUCCCAAGUCUAGUUGCUUAAGCAUGGAAACAUUGGAGAUAGAGUUGGGAAUGUUUCCGCUAAGUUUAUUUCCCCACAAUAAAAGAUUCUCAAGCUUUGGAGCAUUGGUAAUGGGUGGUAAAUUACCUGUAAAAUAGCAUCAUACAUUAAAAAUGAACUCCUAAGUAUUGUUAGCCCAAGCCUUGUGUUGAAAUCAUCUUUACUUUCUAGAUUUAAAAUUGAUUGAAUAUCAAAUUUAAAAAUAUAUAAUACAUUAAUAAUUUUUUUAAAAUAUUGUAAAUCUUUAAAUCAAAGAAAAAUAAAAGUUUAAGAUGAAAAUGUGGCAUCUAAUCAAUAUUCCUUUAUUUUCCUUAUAUAAAACUUUUCUCUAUUUUUUAAUUAAUAUGUAUUGAAAAUAAAAAAAAAGAAUUUUAUAUUGCGCAGCUCAUUAAAAAAUUAAAAAAAUCAGAUUUUUUUUAUAAAAAUGUAAGAAAUGUUUUAAAAAAUUUAAAAAUAAGAAAAAAUACAUAAACCGUAAAAUAAAUAUAAAGAAUACUAAAAAAAUGUAAAAAAAAAUUCUCAGCUCUAUAAUAGUGCAGUUUUUAGAAAAUAAAAUGCAAAAAGAAAACCCGAAAAAAUAGGGAAAAUCAGAAAAACUUAAAAAGAAUCAACAAACUGCGAAGAAGGUGAGUUGUGGACUGAAAAGAUCAAUUUGAAAAAGGUUUCGGGCUUUCGGCUUAAUUAAAUAAAGUAAAUUAAAAUGCCAAAAAGCAGAGAAAGAAAAAUACUAUUCAUUGUUAAAGUCCAAGUUGGUAUAAUUAAUAUCUAAGUUUCGUGUUGGAUUAAUUAUUUAUUUUUUAAUUAAAUUAUAUUGUAAAUUUUAAAAGCUAGAAUUUACUUAAAAUUUUUGAACUCUUCAUGUGUUAGAAAUUUAAUUUCUGUACUUCUAUCUUUUAGAAUUUAGUCCCUUUAUUCUUUGAAUUUAAUUAAAAUUUUAAGUUCAUUUGUUAAUAAUGUUAAAUAGUUUUUGUAUUGGUAUGACAUUUUGAAAAGCUAAAAUGAAAAUGGAAAAAAUAAUAUAAAAUAUUUACAAAAUUAUUAAAAUUUUUAAAAAUAGAAAAAAUCUAAAAUUAUAAAAAUUAAAAGAAUAUACUAAAAAAUUAAAAAUAUAUUAGAUAUUUUAACAUUUUUGAAAUUUUUUAAAUGGCAAGAGUUUGAACAUGUGAUCAUUGUGUCUUGGAAGGAUACCACCUAUAACAAUUGUUUUUUUAAUUCAAUUAAUCAAAAUUUAUAAUUGGUACAUCUUAUUAGGUGAUAAAUUUGGAUUAGUCUUUUAUUUUCAAUUUAUUUAAAUAAUAAAAAUAAUAUUAUGUAAAAUAAAUAAUAUUUUAAAUUAUUCCAAAUAUUUUUUACUAGUUGAAGAUAGAUUGUUUGUCUCUAAACCAAUAUCUUAAGAACUAUUGUUGAAUGUUUGACUAUUCUAAAGAAUUUUGGUACAAAACAGAAAAAGCAUGUGCACGAAGGUGGAUGAAGAAAGCUUGCUCUAGAUAUUAAAUAGGGAGUCAAAUCAAAUAAACACGUUACUAGUAACACUAGUAAAACGCUAAAACUUGAUGUAGUUUAAAAUAUUAAAAUGUUGAUAUAAGAAUUUAUUAAAUAUUUUUUUAUAAAAAUUGGUUGUAUUAUAAAAAAACAGUUAUAAUAUCAAAUUUUUAAUAUUUUAAAUGUGAUUAACGAAUGUAUACUUUAUUUCAAGAUACACAAUUUUUACUAGUUUUUAAAAUUUUUUAUUUUUUAUAAUUUUUAACAAUUUCUAAUAAUUUUUAUAGUUUUUAAUAAUUUUAUUUUUUUACAAUUUUUUAAAAAAAUUAAAAAAUUUGUAAUUUUUAAAAAUUUAUAGAUUUAUAAUUUAGUUACUUUUUUAUAAUUUUAUUUGAAUAUAUAUAUAUAUAUAUAUAUAUUUAAAAUUUUUGGUUUCUUUUUUCUAAAUGAUGAUGCCAUCGUGACGUCGGGACGUGUAUCACAUGGCAAUUUAUGAUUGGUUGGAUAUCCCAACCAAAUUUUUUAAGGACCAAAGGAUUGUGUCGGAAACACCUGGUUAUGUUGGGGACUAUAUUAGAAAUGUUUGAUAAUGUUAGGGACUAAAAUGAGUCAAAAGACUUUAAGGACCAAAGUGAGAAAAGCAGCAUACUUUAGAGACUAAAGUGUGCAUUAAGCCUUUAAAAAUAUAUCUAUAAUAUAUAUAAAUUUAUGAGUUUUGAGAAGCUUUUGAUAUGAUAAUUAUAUAGUCUUUGUUGUUUAUUAUAUUACUGAUAUUUUAAACAUUUUUUAUUAUUUAUCAAAUUUAUAAAUAAGAAUUUUGGUUUUACUAAAAUAUUUGAUUAAAUAUAUUUAUGAAAAAUUUAGCAUCCUUAUAAAUAAAAAUUUCCAUUCUAUUAAAAAAAUUAUUAAAAAAUUUAUAUAAUAAAAAUUUAAAAUUCAUAUUGAAUUACUUUAUAUGUAAAUUAUUACUAGAAAUUCUAUCAUAAGUAUAUGCGUGUAAGAACAACGUGUUUCGAAAACAUAUUUGUGUUUUAAAAUAAUAUACAAUAAGUAAUCAAAUCACUGAUUAAUACUAAUAAUAAAUGACAUAUGUAAGAUAUUAAAAUAAAAAAUUGAUUAAAUUGCAAGUAAAACGAAAUUUAAACAUAUGAAUACGUCAUAUUAAUAAUACUAAUUGAAUACAAUUAUUUAUUAUGGUGUUGUUGUCAAUACUAAGUUGGGGUCUAGUUAAAUUGUGACAACUUUUAAUCAACAACAUUAAUGUAUAUAAUUCAUGGAGGUAAUAAAGUGUGCAUAAUAAUAAUAAAAUGUAUAAAAAAUUUAAAAUAAAAUUUUGGUUUUACGUAUUGAUGUGGGUUUAAAUCUCACCAUAAACAUUUUUAUUUUGUUUUUUUAAAUAAAAACUGAAGUACCCUCAAACAAUAUAACUUAUUUUAAAUAAGAAAUGAUAUUUUUGCAAUUUUUCUAACCGAGUUGAUACUCUAUUGACUUAUGACACCAACUCAACCAAAAGCUUAAAUAAUAUUAUAGUUGUUCAUUACUUUAAUUUUAAAGAGCAAAUUUUAAUUAUUUAUAUAACAAAUAACUUUAUAAUUCAUAUAUAAAUUUUAUAAGUAAUAUAUUUAUAUAUUUAUAUAUUUUAAUCAAAUUUAUUAUAUUUUUAUUAAGUAUAUAUCAUCUACAAAUUUUUAAGAUCAAUUUAUUGCCUAUCAAGAAAAGAAAAAAUUGAAAUUACAAAUAUAUCGAUUUUUAUAUUUUGUACGGAUGCUUUCAUGAUGAUAAAAAAAAUUUAUUAGCACUGUUUUUGAAUUAACAAAAAUAAAUUAUAUUUUUUAACUAUAUUUUGAACUAUAUUACUAUUUUUUAAUUACAUAAACUAAAAUUAUAUUAGAUAUUAAAUAUGGUGCAUAUGCUUUAAUUAUGACUUGAAAUUUUAUUAUUAUAUUUGAAAUAUUAAAUAAAUUAAUAUUUUAAUUAGAUUCAACCAUUUGAAUAAUAAAUUAAAAAUAAUAAUCAUAAUAAUUUAAACUUAAUUAAAAAUUAAAUGGUUAAAAUCAAGUGUCAAUCUAUAUAAAUGGGAAUUAAAAAUUUUAAGAUAAAUCAAUUCAUAUAAAACUUAUUGUUUAUUAUGAAAUUAAAAUGAUAAAGUAAUGACGAAAAAAGAAGAAACAAAUUAAACAGAAUGCAUUUUGGACUUUGGAAAAAAACAAAGUGAAACACAUACCUUCUAAACUGUUGUCAUUUAGAUAUAUUCCUUGGAGCAUAGUUGAAUUAAAAAUACUUUUUGGAAUCAGCCCACUGAAUUGAUUUGCUGCUAAAUCCAAAAUCUGAAGCUUGUAACAUUCACCCAUACGUGAUGGAAUAUUACCAGAUAAUUCAUUAUGUUCCAAGACAAGCCAUUCAAGCAUGGGACAAUGGUGACACAAACCAUUAGGUAAACUACUUGAUAGACUAUUGUUGGAGAGAAAAAUAGUCUUUAGAGAAGAAAUGUUGAAGAUUGGAGUCGGAAUCUGACCUGCAGACAUAAUCGAAAAAUCAAGGUGUUAAAACUGCCUAUUUUGUUAGCAUAAAUUACAGAGGUUUUCUUUUUCUGUUCUACAGUAAUUUGGAGAUGUUAGAUUUUAAUAUAAUUAAGCAUAUUUUUUUUAUCAAAUUAACUAUUUUGCUUUGAAUGAAAUAAAAAAAUCUCACUUCUGUAAUCCAUUACAAAUCAAACUCUUUUAUAAAAAAAAAUACUUUAAACUAAAGAAACCAAAGAAAUUCAGUACCUUCUAGGUUAUUCAUCUCCAAAUGUAAUUCUUCGAGUCGUGUCAGAUUUCCAAUACCUCUUGGAAUGAUCCCCGUAAAUUUAUUAUAGGACAAUGCCAAAAUUUGAAGGUUGUUGCAUUUGCCAAUACGUGAUGGAACGUUUCCAGAUAAUUCAUUCCGACUCAAGUAAAGCACUUCAAGCUUGGGUAAACGUUGACACAUAUCAUUAGGCAAACUACCUGAUAGGCUAUUGCUGAAGAGAGUAAUAAUCUUCAGGGAAGAAAUCCUGAAGAUUGAAUAUGGAACCUGGCCAGAUAAUUGAUUGAAUUGCAAGUUCAAGACCUCUAGAUUGGACAUGUUAACAAGUGUUUGAGGGAUUGUGCCUGUAAAGUUAUUGUUUUCCAUUUCCAGCCUUUGAACUCUUUGUAAGUUCCCAAGCCAUGCUGGGAUUUCCCCAUUAAGACUGUUGUAGCUUAACUGAAUGAUCCUCAAACGAUGCAAUUGGCCCAAUUCUUUAGGCAGAUAGCCAGAUAAAUUGUUGCUACUCAAGUCGAGAGAAAGUAGAAAUGAAAGAUUUCCAAGGUGUGGAGGGAUAGUACCCCUAAGAUUCAUGCUUGUAAGAUUCAAAGCUAUAACUCUUUUAUGGAUGAUGCCACAGGAAACACCAAUCCAAUUGCAAACAGAGGUAGAGGCCGUCCAAUUGUUUGCCAAGACAUUUUGAGGAUCGGCAAUGCGAUCCUUAAACUCGAGAAGCACAAACUGAUCGGAGUUGAGAUUCCUGGUUGUCAUAGCCAAGCAAACUACGGAACAUGGUAUGAAUAAACCUAAAAGAAGAUGGAAGCAAGUGUUGUAAUUCAUUAUUGCAAGACGAAAUGAGCCAAGAAAAUAAAAAAGUAGGGAAAGGGAACUUGAAUUGAUAAAGGGAAAAGUUGGAUGAUGAAGAAAAGCACUAAGGGCAUGCUUUAAUAUGCUUUAAUAUGAUGGAGACAACUACAAGCACUAAUAACAUAUUUUCACCUAAUAAAUUAUAAAAAAAUUAAAACAAAAUAAGGUUAAAAUUUUAACAUAUCUGUUAGAUAAAAUUUAAGAUUUAAUUAUUAAACUUGACAACUUAAAAAUUAAAUCUUAUUGUUUGAAUUUAAAAAUUUUAGUCCUACCAUAAAUAUUGUGAGCGUUUUUUUUUUAAUCAAAUUUUGUCAAGUUGACUUAUUAAUUAGGUUUCCCUCAUAUGAUGUGGUAUAUGAUUGAUAAAAAUAAACAUGUUAAGUUGAUAUAUUUUGACAAAAAACUACCAACGAUGAUAAUGAUUGGAUUAAAAUUUUUAAAUUAAAAAUUGUAGGGAUUAAAUUUAUAACUUUUAAAGUAUAAAGACUGAAUCUCAAAUUUUAUAGAAAUAUAGGGGCUAACAACAUUUUUUAGCCACCAAAUAAUAUCUACAAUUUUCACUUAAAACUACAUUGGACUUAAUUGGCUAAGGGUUAACAUAUCAAUUGAUUUAUGAGUUUCACACUUUUUUUUAUAAUGUUGUACUCUUGGUUUUUGUGCAAUGUGAUACACGUAUUUGGUAAAAAGUUAUAUAUUUUAAUACUUAAAAGAAAUUUUAGAGUUGAUUUAAUGGACAUUAAUUGUUAAUAUUAUUUUGAUAUUUAUAUGUAUUUUCAUUUUUAUAAAUACUAUUAAAAAUAUAUAUUUUUUAAAAUGAAUGCUAUUUAAAAACAUUAUUAAAAAAUAAUAUAUUAUAUGAAAGUUAAAAUGAUCUAAAAACAUAUUUUAAAAAUUUAAAUACUUUAUACAAUAUUUAAAACUGUUUAAAAAUUUCUAAACCCUAAAAAUCAAUAAAAUAUAAUUUUUCUAAAAAUUUAAAAAGAUAUAUAUUUAAAAUUUUAUAUGAAAUUUAAAUGAUUUUAACAGUAAUAUAUUUUAAAAAUGGUAGUAAUGUUAUAAACUUGAAAGAUUUUGUAAUUUAAUUACAUACAUUUUUAUAAAAAAAAUUUCUAACAUAUCAUUAUUUGCAUCUUGUUACAUUAAAGAAUUGAAGAUAUAUUUGAGUAGUUAGCCUUUUUUAGAGAACUAUACUUAGACAAUGCAGAUUAUUGAACUGUAUUAUAUCACUUGUUCAAGUAUUUAUUUAUAAAAUAAAAUAAUUAUAGCCUCUUAUAUUAACUGCAUGUAUCUAUUUUGCAUCUUUUAUUAUAAUAUGAUUUAAUAAUUAUAAUAUUUUUAUAGAAUAAUAUGCUUUAAAAUUUUUUUUACUCUUUAUAAAAUUUAUAAUAAACUUACAAAAUUAUUUAAUGAUAUUUAAUUAUCAACGGAAAAAUUAUAUCAUAUAUGUAAUAGGUCAAUUUAGCUCGGGCUCACAAAAAAAAUAAACCCAAAAUAAUAAAAUAAAGUCCAAGUCCAGUCCAAAAUUAUAUCAUUUGGCCCAAUCAGGAUGGCCCAUUACUUGAAAAGGUUGAAGGUCUAUCUACAAACUUGAUGCAUAUGGAAACAUAAUCUUCAAGGAUAUGCAAUCUUAGAUAUGAUAUGCAAUCUUAGAAGAUAUGAUUUUGUAAUCUUAGAGAAUUAAUUUGUAGAUACCCUUUAAUCUUAGCCGUUGAUGUAAUUGAUCUAUACCGUUGAAUUUGGGGAGGCUCAACUAUAUAUGAGGCCUUUCCCUUCAUUGUAAAACACUUCAUUGUAAAACACUUGAGUUUGGAGCAAUAAUAAUUCUUAAGAUCAUUCACUCAAAUUUCUACCUCUCUUGCGUCCUUAUUUUCUGUGGCUUGUUCUUAUUUUGUUCUUUGUUCAUCUUCUUUUCUUUUUAAGUUGCUUUCAUUUGAGUUGGAUUUUGGUGGAGGAAUUUCGUUGAGUCUUCAUGUUGUGAGAGUUAGCCUGACUUAAGCGUUUUUUAACCUUUUUUUAUUUAUCCAUUUAAUUUUUUAAUCAUUAAUUAUUCUUUUACUUUUAUUCAUUUAUUUAUCCAUCAACUUUCUUAUUUACAUAUUGUUCAUUCAUUUAACCAUUCUUAUCAUUCUUUUAUUUUCUUCCAUUAAUUAUAUAUUUUAUUUGUUUUUCAAAUUGCCCUUUUUUUAUCAAAGUUUUUAUGCAUCGUUUUAAUAUUGCGUCAAUUUUCCCCAAUUUUAAAAAAGAAAACUUUUAAAAAUAAGGCAAUAUUCGGUCUUUGGAGCUUUGAGAAAAUCGUGCCCUAACUUACUGGGUUUCAAUUUUUUUUCCACAUAACCGAAUAUCCUUUUUAAACUUUAAUGCAUGAGACAAGCUUAGUUUUGAGGGUUAAAAUGUCGUAUCCUAACUUACUGGAUGUGACAUCUUAUUACUUCGAGACAAAGAGGUCUUAACAUCAAUUCGAUUUAUUCAGGUUUUUAAAGAGGAUUGUAUUUUAAAAUCUUUUCAAAUUUUCGAUAUUAGGAAGUUAAUUAAUCAAUUAGGUACCAAUUUUUGGGCGUUACGAGGGUGCUAAUCCUUCGUCGUGCGUAACUGACUCCUGAGCUCGUUUUCUCGAAUUUUGUAGACCAAAAUUAUUAUUUUAAUAAAUCAAAAUGUUUUAUUAAAAUGAUUAAUCUCAAGGUGACCCGAUCACACCUCGAAAAAAGAUUGGUGGCGACUACAUUUUCGUUUUAAAAGUCGACCCCGUUUUUUAAAAUAAAAAAAUGGUUUCGACAGCUUGGUGACUCCUCUGAGGAUUGGUUUUGAGAGAGUAUCCACAAAUUGAUUAAUUUUUGUCUUUUUGUCGAAAAAUUAAAUUUUGUUUUAAAUUCACGAUUUAUCCUUUUGCAUUUUAUCUAUUAUUUUCAUGGUUUUAACCAUAGUGUCGUCCAAAUCUGUCAAUGUGUAUCUACAUUUUGCAUUGCAUUGGUUGGUCAAUUUUACCCCUCUAAGUGUGAGUGAGAAACUAGUUCUUCGUGAGGUUUUCACCUCCGUGCAGGAUAGUGGAUCACUUUCAGAAUACAUUUGUACCUAUGUCUUCGUGAGAUUUUCAUCUCCGUGCGGCCAUAGGGAAAUGUAUCCCCCUGAACUGAACUCGGUCUAUAUGAACCUAUAAUGGGUGAGGAUCAAGGAAUCUACUGGUUUGGAUACCUUUACCUUAGAAGCCAAACCUCAUAUAAUGAACUCUAGGAACUCACCUUAGGUAGAAUUACGUUGACCCUUAGUAGCUACCCGAGUAGGUGCUUGAUCAUUUCCUGUUUGUUUUUUAAUACCUGAUACUAACUUGUUGUGUUUCAUUUUGAUUGCAUGACAUUUUGACUGCACAACAUUUUGACUGCAUGACAUGCUCAUCAUAUGCAUAAAAAAGGUGUCGAUUCACAUUCAAUUACUAAAUAGAGAGCUUGCCAUGGAAAAUGAAUUUCUUGAUAAAAUGGAGGAUAAUACGACUCUCCUAAUAUGUUCUGAGAAAGCACAACGUGAGAAAGAUGAUAGACUGACAAAAGAGCAUACGACUUUGCUUUGUUGCGUGAGGAUACAAGUUGGUAAAAGUCAUCAAUAUCCCGACCCUUUUCUUAAAAGAAGCUAACAAGUAUCACGAUGAUGAGUGAGUAAUGAGUCGUGGCCCAGUUCGAGCAAAAAGAGCCAGUGAAGCAUCCGUUGGAAAAUUCGAAAGAUUUAUUUUAACAUUCGGAUGAAGAAAAAGGAUCGAUGUCCUCGCUUGGAGCAUGAGGGCAAAGCCGUAUAUAUAUCUGUUUUAUGUAAAGAAUUUUGUUUUCUAGUAAAGUUUUCUAAAUGGAAUUGAAUCAGAAUUGACACCUUUUUGCAUUCAUUUCAUGCAUUUGCAUUACAUGCAUUAAAGUCCACUAAAAGAGCCUAACUGAUCAAAAUUAUCUCAGUUAACCUGAAAACCAACCAACCAACCAAACACUGUUACGGUACUCGAGCAAGAACUAAAGACAUGGACCAGAGAUUGGAAAAACUUUAACAGUUCCAAAAGGAAAUGCAAGACUGACUUCAGCUACAAGUGCAAGAGCGGUUAGAUAAAAUUCAGCAAGAUAUGAUGGAAAAGAUGCUGGAGUCCCAAAGAAACGUGAUGACUUAAUUGACUCAAUUGUUGGCUGGGGAAACGAUAAGGGAAAGGGUCCUAUGGCUAAUACUGAAGAAGGAGAUGAUGAUGAACCUCUCUAUCCUCCAAGCUUCACUCCUCCACAUGUGCAGACCCAAGCUGAGAUGUACCCACACAAAUCCUCUGUCACAAUCAGGCCUCAGCAGUUUCAGGCUGGUGCAUCAAUGCUAAUGAACUUCCAAGUCAGAUCAGGCUCUAACCCUAGAGAGAACGCUAAUAAUCCUUCUAUCCCUGAUUUCGAUGAAGUGGCUGAAAAAUAAAAAAUAAAAGAGGAAUUACCAAAAUAGUUAGAGGAAAUGUGUAAAUGGCUUGAGGAAAAAUUUAGGGCAAUGGAAAGCACUGAGAACUACCAUGGGAUUAAUGCUAAAGACCUGAGCUUAGUCCUGGAUUUGGUACUCCCCUACAAGUUCAAAAUGCCAGAAUUUGAAAAAUACAAUGGGACCAAUUGCCCUGAAGUUCAUAUUACCAUGUUUUGUAGGCGGAUGGAUGGAUAUGUUAACAACGACCAACUGCUAAUACAUUGCUUCGAAGAUAGCCUCGCAGGGGCAGCAUCUAAGUGGUACAAUCAAUUGAGCCGUACCAGGAUUAGUUCAUGAAGGGAUUUAGCACAAGCAUUCAUAAAGCAGUACAGUCAUGUAACAGAUAUGGGUCCUAAUAGAAUCACCCUACAAAACAUGGGAAAGGAGCCAAACAAAAGUUUUAGGCAAUAUGCACAAAGGUGGAGGGAGGUUGCCGUCCAAGUUCAGCCACUACUCCUGGAAAAAGAAACUACGAUGCUCUUUAUUAACACACUAAAAGUCUUGUUCAUCACGCACAUGUUAGGAAGUGCCACAAAAAGUUUCUCAAAUAUAAUCAUGAAUGGCGAAAUGAUUGAAAAUGCCAUUAGAGGUGGAAGAAUAAACGAAGGAGAGAGUAACAAGAAGUCAGCCUCAGGGAGAAAAGAAAAUGAGGUGAAUAACACAGGUUACUCAAGAUCAGUUACUGUAAGCCAGCCAAGAAAGAUGGUUGCUAGUCAGCAAGCUCCAUCAAGGCAAGAUCUCGACACAAAGACUGAGAAGUUCCAGUUUACACCAUCUCAAUAUCGUAUAGGGAACUGUAUCAGAGUUUGUUUGAUGCACACGUUGUUUCUCCUUUUCACGUGAAACCUCUACAACCCCCAUACCCCAAAUGGUAUGAUGCAAGCGCCCAGUGUGAAUACCAUGCAGGAAUUACAGGGCACUCGAUAGAAAAUUGCACUGGCUUCAAAAAGCUAGUUGAAAGAUUCAUCAAUAUGGGCAUCGUCAAGUUCGAUGACUCAUCUAAUGCAAAAAAUUUGCUACCCAAUCAUAUGGAUAAUGGGGUGAAUGUGAUGUAUGAAGAAGUGUUGGGAAACAUUCACAUCAAUGCCAUAUAUGAAGACACAUUUGAAAAGGGGCCUUGUUAGAUAUCCACCCUUAUAAACUUGGGAGUGUUCUAAACAAUUGGACUGCAGAAGAAAUCCCUGUAGUAUUUAGAGCUUACUUAGAGUAAUAUUCAAAACACACUUGUUGCUUUAAAGCCUAGAGGCAAUAAGAACCCUGUUAUGAAAUAGGCUUGUGUUUAAAAUCUUUAUUUCAAUAAAAUGCAUCUUUUUGAGCAAACAUUCAUUCAUUCUUUUCAUUUAUAUAUUCUUUUUUUCCUUGGACUCUUUUAAAUAUUAUUUUAUUCUUCAUUCAUACAAAUAAUUGUCCUUAGACUUAUUUAUUCUAUAGAAUCAACCUUUGUACCUACAAUAAGUCUUCAAAUAUCAACAACAUGAGUGAUAUUGCUAUUGACUUAAAAUCUCCUUUCGAGUAAGAUAUGUGUCAGGGGAAUCUUAGGACUUUGAAUAUGACUGAGAUUGUAACCUAUCUCAUGAUUUGUUAAGAAUGGUAGAAAAAGAUGAAAAAUAGAUCCUACCUUACAAAAGUCAGUGGAUAGUGAGCGUAGGAGAAGAGAAAGAGAUUAGAGUUUGUCCAUCGAAAUAAAGCGAAACAUCACUAAAUUACUCCAAGAAUUCAAAAAUCUUUUCGCACGAUCAUACCAAGAUAUGUCUAGCUUACUAAGAAGUAUGGAUGCUGUUAAGGCUAAAAGGUCUAUAAAUGUGUCAGAAGAACACCUACUAAUGGUUUUACGAUAGCCACGUUAAUCACGAGGUUUCAGUACUGCUGGUCCACCAUAGAAGGGGAUCACAUCAGUUAUACCAUAAAUACCAAUUUGAGGAAGAUAAAACCUAUGUGCCUCUUCCAUUUCUUCACAAAUUUUCCAUAUGUAGGGCAUGGAUGUGAUUGGGCUAAUCUCGUCAAAAGUUUUUAGUCAAGAUCGAUUCAUCUUUGUGGUCUUCGAUUAUUUCGCUAAGAGGGUCGAAAUAGCUUUAUAUCCCAAUGUUACAAGGUCAAAGUCAUUAAAUUCUAAUUUCAAAAAAAAAGAAAAAGAUCCGACGCCGAUAAAGAAUGCCAAAAAGGACAAUGUCAAAAGUUUGUAGUCUAUUCAAAGAUUAGAUGCCAUAGGCAACCAAAAAAUAAAAAUAAAACAAGGAUUGUGGGAAAGAUGACCGAGACUUGUAAAGAUUGGUAUAAAGAAGUUACCAUCUACGCUCACCAAAUUCGACCAGGACCUUUCCUUGGGCAACACCUGGCCCAUUGGUUUGUGUAAUGUUGAACCCAAUCAAAGAAAAAAGGGUUAAAAGCUAUCCAUUACAGUCAGAUGAUGCGAGCUUACAACAAAGAGGUUCAUCUUAGAGAAUUCCAUGAGGGGGACCUAAUGUUAAAAAAGAUCCUUCUUAUAGAAAAGGAUUUUAAAGGAAAGUGGGUUCCAAAUUGGGAAGGGCCUUGUGUUGUAAAGAAGGCCUAUUUUGGAGGAGUAUUUUUAUUGACCGAGAUGGAUGCCAAAGACUUGCCCAAUUUAGUGAAUUCAAAUUCAGUCAGGAAGUAUUUUACCUGAAAGGGGAGAAGCCAAGGUGAAAACCUACAAAGGGCGCCUUGAGAAAAAAAUAAAAAAUCAAAAAAAAAGAGAAGAAAGAAAAAGAGGAGAGGCCAAGGCGAAAACCCGCAAAGGGCGCUUUGAGACCAAAGGGGUUUUGAGUUGAAACCUGAAAAGGGCAGCUUAAAUUUUGAACGAAAAUGGGGCAUGUGGUAGUCUUGCUAUGCCUGAAUUAACAAUAAGGAAGUAUGCUACAUCUUAGGGCAUUGACAAAGUACUCCAGAUCCCCUAAACACAUAUUAAGCUCAAAAUGGUCCUCAAAAAGUUCAUACAGAGAAGUUUAGGCUACAAUAUCUACGGCACCUAGUUUUCCAUCUUACCCAUUUUUGAAUUUGCUAUCUUUGAUUACCUUAUUCUUUUCAAGAUACGCCCCAAUCAAUUUCUUUUUAUUGCCUUGGUUAUCUUUGAUUAAUUUAAUUAUUUUGAGCUAUGCUCCUAAUUAAUUUUCUUCUUGUCCAUUAUUAUAAUAUUUUUUAAGCAUUUUAUAUUGAAAUAAUGAUUAAUGGACUAAUAAUACUUUCAUAAAAAGAGUUUUGCAUAUUACUCUGGAAGCUUCUAAAUAAUACGAGAAUUUGAAAUAGGACUAUUGUUUAGAACUCACUAAGCUUAAGGGUUGGAAAUAUUGAAAGAUGAUUAUCUCUUUGAAUAUUUUUGUUGAACAAAAAGACAAGACAUUUCGUCGGUGAUAUCAUCUCGACAAAUAACGAGCAAUGUCAACUCAAAUGUAAAAGGGGAUCAUUUUCGGGAAAAGAAAAAUGAUACUCUACAUUCAUGAAAAUUUCAAGCAUAUACAUUUGGUCAUUACACCCAGGGAAUGGUGUAACAGAUCAAUUUGACUGAAAAUGAUACAAAUUCUAUACCUCUGGGUGGCAGCAGGAUGGAUGGAAGAAACCAAAUAUUAUUCUUUUGAAGUUGCAGUGGGAGAUAAAAACUUUAUGUCCCAGACGGUACAGUGGAAGAGACUCUGAAAUUACAACAGGGCAAGCUUGUUGAGCAGAAUGUGAUUGUUUCUUCGAGUUUUCUAUUGAAAAAUACCAGUUGAAUAAGAUAGGAGUGUAAUAUGUCAGUGAUAAGACUCCUAAUGAAAAACAAAUGAUGACACCCUAAGCAUUAAAAAAGAGAUCAUUCUCAUUUUGCAUUCAUAGAUCAUUCAUAGCAUAUCUAAUUAAGAGCAUUUGACUUAUUUCAAUCAUGGCAUCCUAAUCAUUCAGCAUUAGCACAGACCCAUUCUAUAGGUUAUGUCCUCUAGAGGAUGAUGUAGUAAGGUAGAUUGAAGCUAUCAGUCUUGCCUCACUGAGUUUGCAGCAAAGCAUAUUGAAAGCAGCAGAUCUUGUCUUACUGUACUGGCAGUGAAGUAGAUCGAAAACAUCAGCCUUGCCUUUCUGAGUUUGCAGUGGAGUAGGUUGAAGAUUGUAGAUCCUGUCUCCCUAAGCAGUAGUGGAGUAGAUCAAAGACGGCGAAUCUUAUCUAUCCAAGGUAGUAGGGAAGCAAAUCUAAGCCACCAGUCCUAUCUCCCUGAGUAAUAGUGGAGUAGGUUGAAGAUUGUAAAUCCUGUCUCCCUAAGCAAUAGUAGAGCAAAUAAAAGAUGGCGAAUCUUAUUUUCCCAAGGUAGUAAGGAAGCAGAUUUAAGCCAUCAAUCCUAUCUCCCUGAGUAGCAGUGGAGUAGGUUAAAGAUAUAGAUCCUGUCUCCCUAAGCAGUAGUAGAGCAGAUUGAAGACGGUAAAUCUUAUCUUCUCGAGAUAGUAGGAAGCAGAUUUAAGCCACUAGUCUUAUCUCCCUAAGCAGUAGUGGAGUAGGUUGAAGAUUGUAUAUUCUAUCUCCCUAAGCAGUAGUAGAGCAGAUCAAAGACGGCAAGUCUUAUCUUUCCGAGGUAGUGAGGAAGCAGAUUUAAGCCACCAGCCUUAUCUCCCUGAAGUUGCAACGGAGCAGAAUGAAGAUAACAAAUCUUAUUUCCCUGAAGUUGCAGUGGAACAGAUUAAAGCUAUAAUCACAGAUUUAAUCUCUUUGAGGUUGCAGUAGAGUAGAUUAUGGCGAAUCUUAUCCUCCUAAAGUUGCAGUGGAGUAGAUUAAAGCCAAUAAUCCUAUCUCCCUAAAGUUAUAGUAGAGCGGAUUGAAACCACUAAUCCUAUCUCCCUGAAGUUGCAGUGGAGUGGAUUAAAGACACAAGUCUUAUCUCCUUGGCAUUAUAGUGGAAUAGAUUAAAGCUAAAGGUAGCAAAUCUUGUUCCCCUGGUGUUGUAGCAAUGCAGAUUAAAGUUGAAGGUAGCGAAUCUUAUCUCCUUGGCGUUAAGACUGAAGGAAGCAAAUCUUAUUUCCCUGGCAUUGCAGUGGAACAGAUUAAAGCUAAAGGUAGCGAAUCUUGUUUCCCUUGCAUUGUAGUGGAAUAGAUUAAAGCUGAAAUGGAGCAGAUUAAAGCUGAAGGUAGCAAAUCCUAUCUUUUUGGAGUUACAGUGGAACAGAUUAAAACUAAAGGUAGUGAAUCUUGUUUCCUUGGCGUUACAGUGGAGUAGAUUCAAGCUGAAGGUAGCCAAUCUUAUCUUUCUAGCGUUAAAGUUGUAGAAAGCAAGUCUUAUCCCCCUAAAGUUGCAGUGAGGCAGACUGAAGAUGACAAAUCUUAUCUCCCUAAAUUUGCAGUGGAGCAGAUUAAAGCCAAUAAUCCUAUCUCCCUAAAGUUGCAGUGGAGUGGAUUAAAAUUAGGUCUUAUCUCCCUGAAGUUGCAGUGGAGCAAACUGAAUAAACCAAUCUUAUCUCCCUGAAGUUGCAGUGGAGCAGAUUGAAGAAACCAAUUCUAUCUCCCUAAAGUUGCAAUGGAGCGGAUUAAAAUGAUGGAUCUUAUCUCUCUAAAGUUGCAGUAGAGCAGAUCACGUCAGGUCUUAUCUCCCUGAAGUUGCAGUGGAGCAUAUUGAAUAAACCAAUCUUAUCUCCCUGAAGUUGUAGUGGAGCAGAUUGAAGUUAUAAAUCCUGUCUCCUUGAAGUUGCAGCAGGACGGAUUAAAAUGAUAGAUCUUAUCUCUCUGAAGUUGCGGUAGAGUAGAUCGUAUCAAACCUUAUUUCCUAGAUAUUACAAUGAAACAAGUUGAAGCUACAAGUUUUAUCUCCCUGAAGUUAUAGUGGAGCAAACUGAAGAUAACAAAUGUUCCCUCAAAGAGCUACAAAUCCUAUCUCCUUGAUGUUAUAAUGGAGUGGAUUGAAGCACUAAUUCCUAUGCCCCUGAAGAUGCAGUGGGAUGGAAUGAGACUACUUGAAGAAGACGAGCACUCAAAGAAGUCAGAACUCGGCAAGACCGAGAAAAAUUGGCCCUUUUGUAGUCUUUGCUCCAUUCUCGUUACACGACAACGAGCAAAGAGGGACACUGUAAUAGGCCAAUUUAGCCCGGGCUCACAAAAAAAACCAAAAUAAUAAAACAAAGUCCAAGUCCAGUCCAAAAUUAUAUCAUUUGGCCCAAUCGAGAUGGCCCAUUACUUGAAAAGGUUGAAGGUCUAUCUACAAGCUUGACGCAUAUGGAAACAUAAUCUUUAAGGAUAUGUAAUCUUAGAUAUGAUAUGCAAUCUUAGAAGAUAUGAUUUUGUUUUAAUUUGUAGAUACCCUUUAAUCUUAGCCGUUGAUGUAAUUGAUUUGUACCGUUGAAUUUGGGGAGGCUCAACUAUAAAUAGAGGCCUCUCCCUUCAUUGUAAAACACUUGAGUUUGGAGCAAUAAUAAUUCUUAAGAGCAUUCACUCAAAUUUCUCCCUCUCUUGCGUUCUUAUUUUUUGAGGCUAGUUCUUAUUUUGUUCUUUGUUCAUCUUCUUUUCUUUUUAAGUUGCUUUCAUUUUUAGUUGGACUUUGGUGGAGGAAUUUCGUUGAGUCUUCAUAUUGUGAGAGUUAGGCUGACUUAAGUGUUUUUUUUAACUUUAUUUAUUUAUUCAUUUAAUUUUUUAAUCAUUAAUUAUUCUUUUACUUUAAUUCAUUUAUUUAUCCAUGAACUUUCUUAUUUACAUAUUGUUCAUUCAUUUAACCAUUCUUAUCAUUCUUUUAUUUUCUUCCAUUAAUUAUAUACUUUAUUUGUUUUUCAUAUUGCCCUUUUUUUUAAUCAAAGUUUUUAUGCAUCGUUUUAAUAUUGCGUCAAUUUUCCCCAAUUUUAAAAAAGAAAACUUUUAAAAAUAAGGCAAUAUUCUGUACUUUGGAGCUUUGAGAAAAUCGUGCCCUAACUUAUUGGCUUUCAAUUUUUUUUCCACAUAACCUGAAUAUCCUUUUUAAACUUUAAUGCAUGAGACAAGCUUAGUUUCGAGGGUUAAAAUGUUGUAUCCUAACUUACUGGAUGUGACAUCUUAUUACUUCGAGACAAGGAGGUCUUAACAUCAAAUUCAAUUUAUUCAGGUUUUUAAAGAGGAUCGUAUUUUAAAAUCUUUUCAAAUUUUUGACAUUAGGACGUUAAUUAAUCAAUUAGGUACCAAUUUUUGGGCGUUACGAGGGUGCUAAUACUUCGUCGUGCGUAACCGACUCCCGAGCCCGUUUUCUCGAAUUUUGUAGACCAAAAUUAUUAUUUUAAGAAAUCAAAAUGUUUUAUUAAAAUGAUUAAUCUCAAAGUGACCCAAUCACACCUCGAAAAAAGAUUGGUGACGACUCCAUUUUCGUUUUAAAAGUCGAUCCCAUUUUUCAAAAUAAAAAAAAUGGUUUCGACAAUAUAUAUUUUGUAUAUAUUAAGAUUUUGAAUCCUUAAUUAUAUAUCUAUAUAUUAUAAUAAUUUUAUAAUAUUAUAAAUAUAUUAUAUCAUAAAUAUUCUUUCAAAUAUUUUUUAAUGUUUAAUAAUAAGUUAAUUUAUAAAAUAUUCUUUCAAUAAAUUAACGUGAUGAGAUCGUUAGGUGCUUGGAUUUGGUGAUGGGGGAUGAAGAGAAAAGGGAUGGAAGUGAAGACAUAUGUUCAGAAAUGGAAACGGUUAGCAAGGGAAGCCGCCAUGAAAGGUGGCUCUAUGGAUAUGAACCUUCAAGCUUUUGUGGAUGAUGUUACUCAAAGGUUGUUGCAAGUAAAUUCAAAAAUGUUUUUUUUAAUUAAUUUUUUGUUAAAAAAUAUUUUUUAUUUUUCAUGUGGCAUGCCACAUUAUUAUACUAUCAUGUGAUUUCUGUCCGUAAGAUUAGUCAAAUCAACGGAUAAAUUGUUCAACUCACAAUUUUUGUUAAAUGAAGAGGUCAAUUAAUUUUUUUGGAAUCAUUGAGAACUCAAUUGGUGCAGUUUUUUCAUAAAGGCUAAAUUAAUUAUUUAAUUUGUUACUGUUGAGGGCUAUAGCAAUAAAAAAAUUUGAGGUAAAAUGAAAAAAAUUGUUAAAACUAAACUUGUGAUUAUGCCUAAUUUUAUCACAUUCUCCUUCGUUGGUAUUUAUGAUUUAGAAAAUUUUACAAAUAUAUUAUUUUUUAAGAAAUUAUAAGAAGAUUACAAAAAUUCCAAAAAUAUAUAAAAAAAGCUAAGAAAAACCUAGAAAUAAAAAAAAAAUCAUGUUUUUACAAAUUGGGAAAUACCUAAAUUUGUUUUCACCAAUUAAGAAAUUAAAAAAAUUGUUGAGAAAUAUCUUUUUCGAAAUAUCAUAAUUGCAUUUAAGACCUCAUGAUUAUCUUUUAUAAUUUCAGGCUUAUCAACUAUUUUGAAAACAACAAAACGUCUUACACCAAAACACAAAAAAAAAACGUCGACAUAUCACUUUAGCAUUGACUUACUUUUCUACUGUUAGUCUUCUCCAACAAGUUAAAUACUUCAAUUUUAACAACAUUGACAGGUCUUUGGGGUAGGGUCGAGCAAAACUCAAUAGAAACAGAUGAUAUAGGUUGAGUUGGCUCGGUCAAGCCCAUGUCCCUAGCUAUACGCCCCUCGUAAAAUCAAUUUUAAAAUUAAUUAUAAUAGUUUAAGCGAAUUGAUUAUUGAGUAAUGAAAUACUUAAUUCAACCAAUUGAUGUAAUCAAAUUAUAAUAAAUAUAUAUUUACUUUUAUGGUAUCCUUCAUCUCCUUUUUAGAGUUUGUGGGAAUAUUUUUUUUAAGCUUCGAAUUUAUUUUCUUAUUUAUGAGUACAAUGUGUCUUACAAUUACAUCUGCAGUUUAUAUUUUUUAUUUGAAAACAAAUAUUAUAAUAUAUGAAAACCCCAUAUAUAUAUAUAUAUAUAACCAAAUUUUGUCACACCCAUUUUAUGUUAAAAAUAUUUUCUUUUAAAUCGAGUAUAGGUUGGGUGGUAAAGUACUUAUAUUUUAAUACUAGUAAAUACAUGUUCAAUCUUUAGAUUUAUAAUUUAUAAUUCUUUUAACUGAAGAUGAUAUACAAGUAUGAAAAGACAAAAGUGACAUAGUAAUAAUAUUAAUUAUAAAUUUUAUAAUUUCAUGAUUGAGUUGAUGACGUAGUUGAAGGUAGCACUAACUCUAAAACACUUAAAUAUAGUAAUAGCUUAAAAAUGAGGGGCUUCUGGUAAAUACAUUACUGAGUUGGUAACCUGAUUGAGAGUAACACCAACUCAAUAAAACUCUUAAAUAUUGACUGCAAAUCCUAUCACACACUCAUGUGUAUGAAAACCACAAAUUUAGAAUGCAAAAAUGUGUUUAAAAAUAACAUACAAUAAAGAAUGAAAUUUAUGAUUUGAAACUAAUUAAUAAUAACACAUGAAAUAUGUACGAUAUCAAAAUGAAAAAAUAAAAGAUUAAAUUGUGCAUAAAACAAAAUUUUAUCCUAUUACAUCAAUAAAGUUAUAUUUAUUACCCUCGCCAAUUGUUUGUCAUUAAGAACAUUAAAGUAUCCUUGAAUGAUAUAACUUAUUCUAAUUAGAGUUGAUUGGUUGGCUUGGAUACCAACUCAGUCAGGGGCUUAAAAUUAUUAAAAUAUUAAUAUUUUAAAGAGAAAUUAAUAUUAUUAUAUGUGUAUUUUCACCUUUUCAUACUUUUAUAUAAUCUUCAAGUAAAACGAUUGAAAAAUAUUAUUUGAGAAUCAAACAAAAGACUAAAAAAUUCAUAUAGAAAAUGCUUGCAACUCCACUAAUAAUCAUUUGCCGAUGUAUUUUUGGUAAAAGACCUCUCCAAUCCCUCUUAAUUUCACAAUUGCACAAAUUACUCCCUCUCAAAAAAUUGGAGCAAUUUAAUCCCUAUCAAUUUUGAAAGUGAGUAAAUAAGGACAAUUAAUUAUGGUAUUAAAUUCUUCCAUCAAUCGUAGAUAAUUUUGAUUGGUAUAGUUAUAAAUUUAGCCUUCAAUGUUUAUAUAUUUUGUCAUUUUUGCCUUAAUUUUUAAAAAAUAUUCAAGAAAUUCAACCUCAACAUUUACAUAUUUACACAAACAUUGCAGGAAAUUUUUGUUAAACUAAGACCAAAUUGCAAAGUGUGCAAAUUUUGAAGGCUAAAUUUAUUAAUAUACCAACAAAAACCAUGUACAUUUUAUGGAAAAUUAACGUCCUGAUUAAUUAUUCUUAGUUGCUCACUUUCAAAAUUAAUAGGGACUAAAUUGCUCUGAAUUUUUUUAGGGUGACCAAUUUCCUCAAUUUGGAAAUUGAGAGAGACUAUUGAGAUCUUUCACAUAUUUUUUUUAUAAAUAUAUUUUUUAAUAUAAAAUAUACUUGUUCACCCACAUCAUGUGUAUGGUAAAAUAUUUUUAUUGUUGAUUGAGUUGGUGUCAAAAAUUAACUUGACACCAACUCAAGAUUAAUAAUAACAAUAUGAUAAAUAAUUUCUUUAUUUAAUAUUCUUAAUUUAACAUAUUGAUGUAAAUUUUAAGACAUGUAUGUCUUGUAGAAUUGUGCUUAUACUUUUUGAGUAUUGAGUCAGUUUUCCACAUUUGUGGGUCUCUAUUUGAGCAACACAAUUUCAACAUUUCUUCAUCUCGCUUAAUCCAAAUGCAUUUAGGAUUUUUUUAUAUCAUUGUUUCAAAAACGAUAAAAAAAUACGUCGACAUUGAAUUUGCUAUUUCACAUUCAAUUUCUGGAGAAGUAGAAUUUUCUAACUUAUUUUCCAUCAACUUCACUUCAAUUUUCAAUCACAAUCAAUUGCUUUCAAGAGCACCACAUCUUUUUGGAUGAAACAAACCUCUCAAUAUUAAGAUAAACGGGUCUUUAGGGCUAUUAAUUGAGGGCCUUUUCCACAAUUGCCAUCGUUAUUUGCGGGUGAUUCGGGGAUAAUAACAUCAACAUUUCUGUAUCACAUUUAAUUCAAUUCCACAUUGAACUUUUAAUUUUUAAAUAGAUGAUUGGGUUACAACAAUGGUUUGAAGUGAAGAUAUUUCAAAAGAAGGCAAAUAUAUCACUUUUUUGAGGGGUCUUUGGAGUUAUAUGUGACUUUAGCAUUGACUGACUUUUUUACAAUUAAUCUUUUAUAAUAAGGUAAAUAUAUCAAUUUUAAUAACAUCGACAUGUUUUUUAGUAGGGUCGAGCAAAAUCCAAUUAAAACCUUUCAUCACUGCAAAAAUGAAAUAAUAGAAAUGAAAGACUAGCCAUUGUAUGAGAUCUAUAAUUGAACUGUCAACGAAAUUGGGAGAAAUUUUAAAAUUUUAUGAAAUUUUAAAAUUAAACUGUCAAUAAUAUAAAAUUGCCUGAGUGACUUGGGAUAAGAGGUUGAACAUUGCUGGAUCACAUUACAUUUAAGAUGGGUCUUUAAGGUUAUACUUUAGUUAUUGAGAACAUUUUCCACAAUUUGCCAUCGUUAUUUGUGGGGUAUGUGGUUGAACACUUCUGGAACACAUUGCAUUUAGGACGGGUAUCAUUCAUAGACUGACUUUUCUAUAAUUAGUCCUUGCUUUACUUUAGGUGGAUUCUUCCAACUAGUCCAAGAAUUAUUGUACAGUUACAAUUAAUCUUUUUAAAUGAGACAAACAUUUCAAAUUUGUCGUUACUAUUUGUGAGUGAUUUUGGGGUAAGAAGUUUAACACUUCUGGAUGUCUUAUAGAAUUGUGAUUAUACUUUUUGAGUAUUGACUCAGUUUUCCACAAUUGUGGGUAUCUACUUGAGCAAAACAAUUUCAACAUUUCUUCAUCUCGUUUGAUCCAAAUGCAUUUAUGCAUUUCUUAUAUCAUUGAAUUUGCUGUUUCACAUUCAAAUUUUGGACAAGUAGAAUUUUCUAACCUAUUUUCCGUCAACUUCACUUGAAUUUUCAAUCACAAUCAAUUGCAUUCAAGAGCACCACAUCCUUUUGGAUAAAACAAAACUUUCAAUUUUAAGGUAAACGGGUCUUUAGGGUUAUACGAGGGCCUUUCCACAAUUGCCAUCAUUAUUUGCGGGUGAUUUGGGGAUAAUAACUUGAACAUUUCUGGAUCACAUUUAAUUCAAUUUUUAAAUUUUAGAGAGAUGUUUGGGUUACAACAAUUUCCAUCAUUAUGUUUAAUAUAACAUUUGGGAGGAAAAGGAGCAAAAAAAAUGAGUGAAAAUCAGAAAAUGGGGGCAAAGUAUAGGACCCACAUGAGCUGACCUAUUCCACUUGACUAUGGGACGACAUCAAUUUCGUAGAUUUGCACUUUGACCUGCUAAAAAAUACGAAUUUUAGGCUUUUCUGGCAUUCUAAGAUAUAUAUAUAUGACAAAAAUAAGAAGAUAUAAGAGAACCUUCCUAGAAUAUUCAAGAAAACAACUCCAAAGACACUACUAAAGCCGACUCUGAACCAGAUUUUCAUUAAGAUGGAAGAUUCCUAAUUGAUUUCUUAAGAGAUUAUCAUGAGUUUCUUUAUUCCUUUCAGUUAUACUACCCUUUGGAUGUUUUUAUUUUUAAUCAUGAACUAAUUUUCUAAAUACCUAAGAGAGAUGAACCCUAUGAUAGAUUGUGACACCCCAAAGCCGACCGAGACAGACCGACCCGAAUUCGAAACAUUACAUUAGCCACCUAAGUGACUUUCUAGCUAACAACCAGCCAAGACACACCCUAACCUUAUUGUACAAGCCUAAUUUUGACCAAGACUAAACCAAAUAAAUUAACAGUCCAUAAGAGUCCAAAUUACAACUAUCCUGAUACGACCCAAAUUAAAAACAACAACCCAAGCCCAAACCUAACCCUAGUAGCCCAAAGCCCACAAGCUAAAAAAUCUUAGCAGAAAAAACAAAGUUGCUAACCCUAGGCGCUGCGCCUGGGUCCUCUACCAUUGACCGUAUGCCUCUAUCAUCGCGUCUCACAGCCUCUGCCACGCCUCUGCUACCUGCAAGAAACCAACAAAGCACAAAACGACAACAGCAAUAGGGGCCAAAUCAAAAAAUAAUAAAAAAAUAGAUCAUGAAUCGCUUAGAUCGGCUAUAAAGGCCAAAAUAUUAACCUUGUAAUGCUUCUUCUUUUUUUUGACGAACAUUAGAAAAAUAAAAAAUAGAAAACAAGUAUCAAAGGUAGAUUUUUUUCAUUUUCAAAUUCACAUUUCUUUUCCCUGUGUAUUUUCUUUUCUUCUAUUUUUUUUACAUACAACUAGUAAGAACAAAGAAAGAGAAAGAAAAACCUCACCUAGAAUAGCCCCUCAAGUCCGGUCGUCGGAGGCCCUUUUCCCGUUGUCGGAAUUAGACCUAAAAGGGGGGCUAGGGGUGCCCUCUCCUGGUUUUUUAGGCCAAAGAAGGUUGGAUCUUUGAGCGCACUGGAAAUCGGGGUUGAAACGCCUCUUUUGCGCAACGUCGGCCAUCGGUCACGGUGGCGCUACGGCGGCACUUACGGCCGAAACCCUAGGCCGAGCGGGGUGGGGGUUUGAGAGAGGGAGAGAGCUCAAAAGCUCUCUGAAUUUUUUUAAAAAAAAUGGGAUGAAACUGAUUUUCUUUGGGUUUUUUAUUUUAUUUUAUCCUAAGUAUGAAACGCCUCCGUUUUGGACUUAAGUAGCCAUGGCCAAAACGACGCCGUUUUACAUCGUUUCCCCCAUACCCGCGCGCGCGACCCGACCCGCCAGGGGAUCCGCACGUUUUGACUCUAAGGGGAUAUUUGCGCAAUCUGCCCCUACGCUUUUUCGACGUAUUCAAUUCUGGUUUAUUAUUAUUUUUAUUUUAGCCAUGUAUUUUUGCUUCCGAUUCAAGUUGGUCCUUAGACCAUGUGUUGUUCCACGGUUAAAACGCCGCGCUUUAGGACUGGGGAAUAUUUCCCUGAAAGUCCCUCGCUCUUUGAGCGCGUUUCAUUUUGGUCCCGAGCCACCCCUUUUAUUUAUUUGCAAUUUAGACCGCGAGUUCUAAUCCGAUUUCAAUUUAAUCCUUAUUCCAUAUAAUUAUUUUAUUUUCUUUUUCUUUAAAAAUUAAUUUUUUUUAUUUUUAAAAAGGAGCUCUUCUAUUAUUAUUAUUUAUUUUAAGUUAUACAUAUAUUAUUUAUUCUAAAUGUUUUGCCUAAUAUUUACUUAAUUUUUUUAUUCUAUUAUUUGUUUAACAACUAUAUGUAUAUAUUGUCUCUUAGAAUUUAUAUAUAUAUAUAUAUUUAUAUAUAUAUAUUAUUUUAAUAAAAAUAAAGAAUACUGUUUUUAAUUAUUUUAAACUAUCUUAGUAUUUUUUUUUUCAUUUUAAAGCUUUAUAUUGCUUGUUUGAGACAUUUUGCCAUACAUUUCGAGUUAAUCUCAUAAGUUAUUCGUCUUAUACUAUUACCUACGUAAAAUUGUUCUUUAUUAUUUCGUUUCGUUUGCUUGGACUAUUAAUAUUGAUAUGUUAAAAUGUUGCACAUGGUGUGAUUAUUAUCAUUACGUACGUUGUAAUUAGUUUAUUUGUUUUCGCAUUAUUGCCAUUAUGUGUAUUAUUUCGUUUACUCGUAUUUCCAUGCUAUGGCAAUUCAUUCGUAUAUCAUGUUGUUCAAAAAUUAUUUCACCAUAUUAUAAAUUGUCACCCCAUCGACGCAACCUUUUUGUUCACGCAUUAUUUCAAACAUUACAUUUUUUACCCAAACAUGCAAAAAUGAAAAUUUCAAAUAAGGCAAUAUUUUGUGUAUUGGCGAUUCGAGAAAUUGUAUCCUAACUUAUGGGGUUUUGGCCUUUCUCGUUAAAACUAAUAGCAAAAUACCCUUUUUAAAAUAUCAAAAAAUGACGAAAGGAAUCUAAAUAAGGCAAUAUUUCGUGUUUAGAAAUUCAAGAAAACGUACCCUAAUGUGCUGGGUUUCGAUUCUUUCGUUUGACCAAAUAGCCAAAUAUUCUCUUAAAAUUUCAAAGUAUGGGUUUUGGAACCAUAAGGUGAUCUUGGGUUCGAGGGUUUAAAGUAUUGUAUCCUAACGUGCUGGAUGUGAUUUUUUUCUAAACAAGAGAAUCCUAAAUUCCAACCCAUGUUAUUCGAGUUUUUUUUUAUGAUAGUAUUUUUAAAAACUCUUCAAAGUUUUCAAUCUUCGACAUUAAGACACUAAUUAAUCAACUAGGUACCAAUUUUUUGGCGUUUCGAGGGUGCUAAUCCUUCCUCGUACGUAAUCGACUCCCGAACCUAUUUUUCUGAAUUUCGUAGACCAAAAGCAUUGUUUUAAUAAAUCCAAAUCAUUUAUUAAACACAAUCGUUUUACGAGGUGACCCGAUCACACCUCAUCAAAAAAGAUUGGUGGAGACUCCCGUGUUCGUUUUCGUUUUUCAAAAUUAAAGUCGACCCUCGUUUUACAAAAAAUGGUGUCAACACUUAUAACACCUCAAUCUUAUUUAAUUAUUAUUUAUUUAUUAAUGGCAAAGUAAAUUAUGAGCCAAUUUUGAACUUUUCCUAGGUAAUUUAACCUAAGGGCAUUUAUGUCAUUUUACUAAAAUAAUUUCUGUAAUUUUUAUUAUUCGGCUAUAUAAAGCCAUUGGUGAUACUAUAAAAAAGAAUUACGGAGAUACUAUAAAAAAGGAUUACGGAUUCGAAAGAAAAGAAAAAAAAUCAAAUAGCAUUAUAUUUUUAAGGUGGUUUCCGAUUUCUACUUCUUUUUUCUUUUUCCUUUGAUUUGUUUUUAUUUGCUGAUUAAAAGAUAAAAAAGGGGGAAGUUCUUACUUACAUAUUGCGCCGCCGGAGCCUUCAUCCCUUUUGUUUCAAGUUGGAAUGGGGUGGGCAAUGGUCGAAUCGAAAACAGCACAUAGAGGGUAGAUUUUAAGGUUUCUUUGGUUAGAUUUUUUUUUUAAAAAAUGGAGUGUCUACUAAUAUUUAGGGUUUAUGUUGACUUAUAUAUGGCGUAUGAAACGACGUCAUUUCAUGCCAUUUCAGUGGUUUCAAAACGGCGUCAUAUAGGACCGAGAUCUGUGCGGUGACCUGACCCGAGGGAAGGAUCCGCACGUUUUGUCGCGAUGGUCUAUUUUUACAUUAGGUCCCUUCGUUUUUUAUUAUUAUAAUGCAGUUUUUUUAUAUAUUUUUAAUUUGUACUCCUUGAUUUGUUUUAAUUUCAAUUAGGUCCAUAAUCGAACGACGUCGUUUUGGAGGGCAGGGAUUAAUUUCCCUUUUGGUCUCUCUUUGUUAUUCGCGCGUUCGAUAUGGUCCUUUUCUUUUUAUUUAUUUUAAAUUUGCCCCUAAAUUUCUGUUUUAAUUCCAAAUUAGUAACCUAUUUUGUUAUUUUUGCUAUUAAAUUAAUUACUUUAAUAUUAAUUUAUCAUUAUUACUAUUAUUACUAUCAUUAUUGUUAUUAUUAUUAGUAGUAGUAGUAGUAUUUAUAUAUAUAUAUAUAUAUCUAACUUUUUUUAUAUACAUAAUUUUAUUCUAUUAUAUACUAUUAUUUAGUUUUUUUUAUACUAUUAUCAUAUAUUAUUAUUUAAGUUUGUAAUGUAUUUUUUUUAUAUUAAUCCAAUAUAAUAUAUAUAUUUUCCAUUUUUUAUUUUAUAAUAUAUUUUUUAAAUUCACCUAUAUAUAUUUCUAUGCUUUAAAAGAUUUAUACGAUAAUGUCCUUAUAUAAUACUAUUUUAUAUAUAUGUAUACACAAUUUAUAUUAAAUUAUUUUCAUUAUAUGUACAUAUAUGACAUAUGAUAGAUUUCAUUUUUUUUCACUUAUUUUCAUAAAUAAUUUAUUUCUUUUAAAAAGCCUACUCUAUUAUGUUUUAUUUAUUUCUGCUUUUUACAUGUAUUAUUAUAUAUGUAUACUAUUAUUUAUAUCAAGUUUUUCACUCCAUGUGUAUUACAUAUUCUAAAUUAAUAUAUAUUAUUUUAUAUAUUUUAAUUUUCUUCUUAUAUAAUAUUUGCUUCAAAAUUCAUCUAAAUACUAUUAUUUUAUGUAGUGUUUAUUUUUUACUCUAUCUUGAUUACAUUUCAUACUUAUAUAUAUGUAUAUUGUUCAUUUUUAAACUUUUUGUACGUAUAGUUUAUUGAUUAUAAUUUCUUCUCUCUUUUUUUUAGUGUAUCUUUAAAAAUUGAUUAGUAAUUCACUUAAAUUUUGAAUGUUGAAUGAUUGAGAUUGUUGCCUUGCUUGUUAGUAUUUGUCUAUUGGUUAUUUGUUAUUCAUUAGUGUAUGUUAUUUACAAAUUAUCCUUUACGUUGUACGUUGUCAUUUAUUCGCAUUACAUUCGUUUAAAAGGUUGCAUUUGAUUAAAAUAAUAAAAUUGUUUACCCAUAAAAUUUUCAAGAUACUUGGUAUCCAAGAUUCUUGAGAAGAUUGUGCCCUAACUUACUCGGCUUCAAUUUUCCUCAUUGGAUUGAGGUAACCGGGUAUCUCUUUUUCGAUUAAAACAUAAAAAUUCAAAUCAAAACUUAUCUCGAGGAUUCAAAACGUUGUGUCCUAACUCAUUGGAUAUGACAUUUUGUUAUCUUGAGAUGAGGUUUUUUUUAAUAAAGGCAAACUCACAUGUUGUCGUCGGAACUUCAAAGAAUCGUACCCUAACUUACGGGGUUUUGAUUUCCUUAUUGAAGCAAGAUGACCAAAUUUUUUAGUUUUUGAAAUAAUAAAUUUCAAUAAAGAUUUUUUAAAAGGAGAAUCACUUUUUUAAUCUUUUUUUGACAUUCGACCUUAAGACAUUAAAUAAUCAAUUAGGUACCAAUUUUGGGCGUUACGAGGGUGCUAACCCUUCCUCGUACGCAAUCGACUCUCGAACUCAUUUUUUCUGAAACUCAUAGACCAAAAUCGUUUUCAAGGUGAUUCGAUCACACCUCAAUAAAAGAUCGGUGACAACUCCAAUUUUCAUUUUUAAGUCGACAACUAACUUUUGUUUUCAAAAAGUGGUUUCGACAGCUUGUCAACUCCACUGGGGAUUGAUUUUAAGAGUCGAGCCAUAAAUUGAUUAAUUUUUGUCUUAUGGUCGAAAAAUCAAAUUUUGUUUUUAAAUUCACGAUUCUCCUUUGCAUUUAUUGUUUUCAUCAUGGUAUUGUUGCUUGGUUGGUCUAAGUCUGUUAAUGUAUUUGCAUCGUGCAUUACACGAGUUGGACGAUUUUACCCUUCUAAGUGGGAGUGAGAAACUAUUCCUUUGUGAGGUUUUCACCUCCGCAUAGGAUAGUGGAUCUCUUUCGGGAUACAUCCGUACCUAUGUCUUCGUAAUAUUUUCAUCUCCAUGUAGCCAUAGGGAAAUGUAUUCCCUUAAACCGAACUCAGUUCGCAUGAGCCUAUAAUUGGUGAGGAUCGAGGAAUCUACUGGUUUGGGUACCUUUGCACUAGAAGCCAAACCGUACAUUGUGAACCUUAGGAACUUGCCCUAGGUAGAACUAUGUCAAACCCUAGUAGAUACCCAAAUAGGUGCUUUAUUAUUUCUUGUUUGAAUUGAAUUUUAUUUUUAUACAUGAUACUAACUUGUGUUUUGUUUUGAUUGCAUGGCAUUUUGACUACAUGGCAUUUCAUUAUAAAAGGCGUUGAUUCAUAUUCGGUUACUAGAUAGAAAGCUUAUCAUGGAAAAAGGGUUUCUUGAUAAGGUGAAGGAUAAUGCGGCUGUCCGAACUUGGUCUGAAACAACAUAGCGAGAAACAUUUCAUGGAAAAAGGGUUUCUUGAUAAGGUGGGUUUCUUGAACAUUUCUGGAUCACAUUUAAUUCAAUAUUUAAAUUUUAGAGAGAUGUUUGGGUUACAACAAUUGCAUCAUUAUGUUUAAUAGAACAUUUGAUAGGAAAAGGAGCAAAAAAAUGAGUGAAAACCGAAAAAUGAGGGCAAACUAUAGGACCCACACGGGCUGACCUAUUCCACUUGACUGUGUGACCCACACGGUCGUGUGGCAAACCACGUCAAUUUCAUUGAUUUGCACUUUUAACUGAGAAAAAUACGAAUUUUAGGUUUUUCGGGCAUUCUAAGAUGUAUAUAUGACAAAAUUAAGAAGAUAGGACCUUCCUAGAAUAUUCAAGAAAGCAACUCCAAAGACACCACUAAAGCCGACUCUGAAGCAGAUUUUCAUUAAGAUGGAAGAUUUCUAUUCGAUUUCUUAGGAGAUUAUCAUGAGUUUCUUUAUUUCUUUCAAUUAUAAUGCCCUUUUGAUGUUUUUAUUUUUAAUCAAGAUUAAUGAUAACAAUAUCAUAAAUAAUUUAUUUAUUUAAUAUUCUUAAUCUAACAUAUUGAUGUAAAUUUUAAAUUGACAUUAUUUGAUUCUUUUUAAUAUAUAUUGCUAAGCUUUACAUUAAUAUUUGUUGGUUAUUAUUAUUAUUAUUAUUAUUUAAACAUUAAUCAUGUUUAAAUGCGUUUCAUCCUCCAAUUUAAGAGUUGGAGAGAAUUUUCAAUAGUUAAAUUAUAUCAGUUUUUAUCUAUUUAAAAAUUAUUUAUAAAUAAUAUAAGUAGAAAUUAAAUUUAAAAAAAAUACAUAUUCAUAUUCUAUCGGCUUUUUCAUUAUUAGAGUUUUUCCUCACAGGUAAAAGUAUUUAUGGACAGGAUGGCGUAAUAUUAUGACUUGAAAAGUUUUAAACCCUUCAACACUGCAAAAAUGAAAUAAUAGAAAUGAAAGACUAGCCAUUGUAUGAAAUUUAUAAUUGAACUGUAAACAAAAUUAAACUGUCAAUAAUAGAAAAUUGCCUGAGUGACUUGGGAUAAGAGGUUGAACAUUUAUGGAUCACAUUGCAUUUAAGAGGGGUCUUUGGAGUUAUAUGAUACUUUAACAUAGACAUAGACUUUUCUAUAAUUAGUCACUGCUUUACUAUGGGUGAAUUCUUCCAACUAGCAUGAUAGUUGAUGUUACUCUCCAAGAAUUAUUGUAGCCUCCUCUUCCAACUAGCGUAGAGUUAUCUUUAUUCCUACCCCACGCUGGCAACAAACCACUGCUCAAAUUAAUUUGAAGAUAUCUCUUUUCGAAUCCAUGAGUUUUGUUUUCCUUUUUGUAAAAUAGAUAUCAAGAGAUACCAAAAAUUAUUUUACUAACAAAUUUUAAUUCACUCAAAAAGUAAGUGUUUUAUUUCAAGGGAUCACAAUUAAACAUUAGAUUUCUCAUUUUUUAAUUUUAAUUCAUUUAAGAAAGCUGAUGUAACACAUUAGUGACAUCAUUCCAAACAAAGUUUUAGGUCAAAAUUUUCAUCUAGUCCUUGUAAUUGUUUUUAGGUGAAUUUCAUUAUUAUUCUUUUAUUUUCUUUGGCUUAAAUACACAUUUACCCCUAAUUUUAUCACACUCUCCUUAAUUGGUAUUUAUGGUAUAGAAAAUUUUACAAAUAUAUAUAUAUAUUAAGCAAUUAUAAGAAGAUUACAAAAAUUCCAAAAUAAUAUAAAAAAGCUAAGAAAAACCUUGAAAUUCAAAAAAAAAAUCAUGUUUUUACAAAUUGGGAAGUACCUAAAUUUGUUUUCAUCAAUUAAGAAAUUAAAAAAAUUGUUGAGAAAUAUCUUUUUAGAAAUAUCAUAAUUGCAUUCAAGACCUCAUGAUUAUCUUUUAUAAUUUCAGGCUUAUCAACUAUUUUGAAAACAAAGAAAUGUCAUACACCAGAAAAAUAAACAAAAACAAAAACGUCGACAUAUCACUUUAGCAUUGACUUACGUUUCUACUGUUAGUCUUCUCCAACAAGUUAAAUAUUUCAAUUUUAACAACAUUGACAGGUCUUUGGGGUAGGGUCUAGCAAAACUCAAUAGAAACGGAUGAUACAGUUUGAGUUGGCUCGGUCAAGCCCAUGUCCCUAGCAAUACGGCCCUGGUAAAAUCAAUUUUAAAGUUAAUUAUAAUAGUUUAAGCGAACUGAUUAUUGAGUAAUGAAAUACUUAAUUCAAACAAUUGAUGUAAUCAAAUUAUAAUAAAUAUAUAUUUACUUUUAUGGGUUCCUUCAUCUCCUUUUUAGAGUUUGUGGCAAUAUUUUUUUUAAGCUUCAAAUUUAUAUUUUUUUUAUUUAUAAGUACAAUCUGUCUUACAAUUACAUCUGUAGUUUAUAUUUUUUAUUUGAAAACAUAUAUUAUAAUAUAUAUAUAUAAAACCAAAUUUGGUCACACCCAUUUUAUGUUAAAAAUAUUUUCUUUUAAAUUGAGUAUAGGUUGGGUGGUAAAGUACUUAUAUUUUAAUACUAGUAAAUACGUGUUCAAUCUUUAGAUUUAUAAUUUAUAAUUCUUUUAAUUAAAGAUGAUAUGCAAGUAUGAAAAGACAAAAGUGACACAGUAAUAAUAUUAAUUAUAAAUUUUAUAAUUUCAUAAUUAAGUUGAUGACGUGGUUGAAGGUGGCACUAACUCUAAAACACUUAAAUAUAAUAAUACCUUAAAAAUGAGGGGCAUUUGGUAAAUACAUUUCUGAGUUGGUGACCUGAUUGAGGGUCACACCAACUCAAUAAAACUCUUAAAUAUUGACUACAAAUCCUAUCACACACUUAUGUGUAUGAAAACCACAAAUUUAGAAUGCAAAGAUGUGUUUAAAAAUAACAUUUAAUAAAGAAUAAAAUUUAUGGUUUGAAACUAAUUAAUAAUAACACAUGAAAUAUAUACGAUAUCAAAAUGAAAAAAUAAAAGAUUAAAUUGUCCAUAAAACAAAUUUUUUUCCUAUUACAUCAAUAAAGUUAUAUUUAUUACCCUCGCCAAUUGUUUGUCAUUAAGAACAUUAAAGUAUCAUUGAAUGAUAUAACUUAUUCUAAAUAGAGUUGAUGUAUGCUUGGCUUGGGAUACCAACUCAGUCAGGGGCUUAAGAUUAUUAAAAUAUUCUUAUUUUAAAGGGAAAUUAAUAUUAUUAUAAGUGUAUUUUCACCUUUUCAUACUUUGAUAUAAUCUUCAAGUAAAACGAUUGAAAAAUAUUAUUUGAAAACAUAAGACUAAAAAAAUUCAUAUAGAAAACGCUUACCACUCCACUAAUAAUCAUUUGUCAAUGUAUUUUUGGUACCUCUCCAAUCCCUCUUAAUUUCACAAUUGCGCAAAUUAGUCCCUCUCAAAAAAAUUGGAGCAAUUUAAUCUCUAUCAAUUUUGAAAGUGAGUAACUAAGGAUAAUUAAUUAUGGUGUUAAAUUCUUCCAUCAAUUGUACAUAAUUUUGAUUGGUAUAGUAAUAAAUUUAGCCUUCAAUGUUUAUAUAUUUUUGUCAUUUUGGCCUUAAUUUUUAAAAAAAAUUCAAGAAAUUCAACCUCAACAUUUACAUAUUUACACAAACGUUGCGGGAAAAUUUUGUUAAAGUAAGACCAGCUAAAUUUAUUAUUAUAUCUGUAGGGCCCAAUUUUUGCCCGGCCCGUUAAACAAAUAAAACCCAAAAAUACAAGCCCAAUAACCCUAAACUUUGCCCAACUAGCAACCUCCAUACCCCAAACCCUAGUGGCAGCUUCCAGCAACUCCAGCCGCCGCACGAUGCGGGCCAGAAUCCUCCCUACGCGCGAUUUGCGCCUCCACGGGCGUGCGCACUCCCCAACAGUGCCUAUACCUGCGAGAAAAAACUGGAAAAUGGCAGAAAAUGCAGCAAUAACAGAAAAUAUUUCUUUGAUUUUGUAUUUUUUUUGUUAUUAUUUAUUUUUUAUUUUCGGUUAUAUAUAAACCGAUUUGUAAAGAGAAUGGGGGGAUUUUUUCAGUUUAAAGGAUACAAAAUAGAGAAAAAGAACAGAUCGAACUUGUUUUUUUUAAAGGUUUUUUUUUCGUUUUAUUUUGCAGUGUCUAUUGUUUUUAUUUCCAUUUUUUUAUUUUAUUUUAUUUUCAUUUUAUUUUAUUUAGAAUAACAAAGAAAAAGAAAAAGAAAACUUACCUAAGUUGAGGUCGAAAUCGGUGCCGGAAUUCGGACCGACUGAAUCGCCUGAGAGGCGGUGCGAGGAUGCUAGGGAUGAAACCCUAGCAGAGCAAAGGGAGCCUUUUUUUUAUUUUUUUCUUUUCAAUCUGAUUACAGUGGUUUUGAAAGGAAAAUUUUAUUUUAAAUAACGUUCAAAACGGCGCCGUUUUCCCAGGCUUGACCCGCACGGUGACCUGACCCGAAGGGGAGGAUCCGCGCGUUUGGCUUCAAAAGGGAAAUUGCGCAUUUAGCCCCUGCCUUUUGCAAUGCGCUUCAAUCAAGCCCCUUUUGUUUUUUUUUAAAUUUAGGCCGCAUAUUUCAUUUUUGUUUCAUUUGGGUCCCUCGCUGCGCAACGCAUUGGAAGGACGGGAUAAUUUCCCUUUUGGUCCUCCACUCUUGCGCGCGAAUUCAAUGUGGUCCUGUUUUAUUUUACUUCAAAUUUACCCCUUUUUUUCCUUUUUAGUUCAAUUUAAUCCUUUUAUUUUAAACUGUUGUAUUUUUUUUAUUUAUGUUAUACUAAUUUAUUAUUUUUAUUUUUAUUAUCAUUAUUAUAUCUACCUAUGUACACGCACAUGCGUUUCUUAUCAUAUCUAUGUAUAUACUGUAUAUAUAUUUAAAUGUUUUAUAUGCAUAUGUUAUAUUCAUUAUUAUUAUUAUUUUAUAACAAACAUGCAUUGUUUUUUUAUGAUACAUAUACAUACGCAUGGCUUUUAUAAUAUAUAUAUAUAUGCAUUCUUUUAUACAGUAUACAUAUACCUCUAUAUAUUUUAUACAUUUUUUUUAUUUUCUAACUUUUACAUAUAUAAAUAAACUUUUAUAUUUUAGUUUUUUAUAAAUACGUAUGUACAUAUGUUUUCUUUUACAUUUUCUUUACGACAUACUUAUACAUUUUCUGUAAAUAUAUAUACAUAUGCAUAUUUUGAUAUUUUUAUCUUCACAAUUUUCACGUAUACAUACACAUGUUUUGCAUGCAUAUUCUUAGAAAUUAUUGUAAGCUUGUUGUAUAUAUUUCUUUACCUUCCUUUUUAUAAGUACACUUGUAUUUACGUGUUAAAUGCAUGCUCAUACAUAUUUUCAAGCUUACUUGUAUAUUGUGCUCAUAUAUAUUUUGUAAAUAUGUAUUCAUAUACAUUCUAAAUUAAAGUUUUUGCUUCAUAUUAUACAUUAACUUUCGAUAUACCCUUUUUGAAAAUAUAUUUUGGUUUUAACCGUACGACAAACUUAUUUUCCUGAUUCGAAGGUGUUUUUUUUUUUUGAAUAAAAGUAUUAUUUAAAGUUUGGGAUUUUCGAGGGAAAUUGAGCCCUAACGUAUUGGGUUCUGGUUUUCUUUGUCAAUCUUAAAUGACCGAGAAUAUUCUUUAUUCAAAAUGCAUGAGCAUAAAAAUCAUUUUUGGGAACUUAACUUGUCGUGCCCUAACGUAUUGGGUGUAGCCUGUUACUUUCUUGAAAUGAAGAUUUUCGCAUAAAAUAAAAGUGAUAUUCAAAGUUUGGGGAUUAUGAGGAAUUGUACCCUAACGUAUUGGGACUCGAUUUCUUUACAUGACUUGAACAAUUGAUUAUCCUUUUUCAAAAUUCAUCAUUUGAGUUGAUUUUAAAAUCUUUUUAACCUUCGACACUAAGACAUUAAAUGAUCAAUUUGGUACCGAAUUUGGGCACUACGAGGGUGCUAACCCUUCCUCGUGCGUAACUGACUCCCGGACUCAUUUUCUCAAAAUUCGUAGACCAAAAUAGGGUGAGCCGAUCACACCUUAAUAAAUGAUCGGUGGCGACUCCAGUUUUAUUUUUAAACUCGACAACUAAAUUUUUGUUUUCAAAAAAUGGUUUCGACAAUAUCAACCAAAAUCAUGUACAUUUUAUGGAAAAUUAACAUCCUGUUGCUCGCUUUCAAAAUUAAUAGGGACUAAAUUGCUCUGAUUUUUUUAGGGUGACCAAUUUCCUCAAUUUGGAAAUUGAGAGAGACUAUUGAGAUCUUUUACUUUUUUUUUUAUAAAUAUAUUUUUUUAAUAUAAAAUAUAUUUGUUCACACACAUUGUGAGUAUGAUAAAAUAUUUUUAUUGUUGAUUGAGUUGGUGUCAAAAAUUGACUUGACACGAACUCAAGAUUAAUGAUAACAAUAUCAUAAAUAAUUUAUUUAUUUAAUAUUCUUAAUUUAAGAUAUUGAUGUAAAUUUUAAGACAUGCAUGUCUUGUAGAAUUGUAAUUAUACUUUUUGAGUAUUGAAUCUUUAGAUUUAUAAUUUAUAAUUCUUUUAAUUAAAGAUGAUAUACAAGUAUGAAAAGACAAAAGUGACUUAGUAAUAAUAUUAAUUAUUAAUUUUAUAAUUUCAUAAUUGAGUUGAUGAUGUAGAUGAAGGUGGCACUAACUCUAAAACACUUAAAUAUAGUAAUAGCUUAAAAAUGAGGGGUUUUUGUAAAUAUAUUACUAAGUUAGUAGCCUGAUUGAGGGUAACACAAACUCAAUAAAACUCUUAAAUAUUGACUACAAAUCCUAUCAUACACUUAUGUCUAUGAAAACCACAAAUUUAGAAUAUAAAGAUGUGUUUAAAAAUAACGUACAAUAAAGAAUGAAAUUUAUGGUUUGAAACUAAUUAAUAAUAACACAUGAAAUAUGUAUGAUAUCAAAAUGAAAAAAAAGAAAGAAUAAACUGUGCAUAAAACAAAAUUUUAUCCUAUUACAUCAAUAAAGAUAUAUUUAUUACCCUCGCCAAUAGUUUGCCAUUAAGAACAUUAAAGUAUCCUUGAAUGAUAUAAAUUAUUUUAAAUAAAGUUGAUUGGUUGGGAUACCAAUUCAGUUAGCGACUUAAAAUUAUUAAAAUAUUCUUAUUUUAAAGGGAAAUUAAUAUUAUUAUAAGUGUAUUUUCACAUUUUCAGACUUUUAUAUAAUCUUCAAGUAAAACAAUUGAAAAAUAUUAUUUGAGAAUCAAACACAAGACUAAAAAAUUCAUAUUGAAAACGCUUAUCACUCCACUAAUUCAUAUUGAAAACCUCUCCAAUCCCUAUUAAUUUCACAAUUGCGCAAAUUAGUCCCUCUCAGUUUUGAAAGUAAGUAACUAAGGAUAAUUAAUUAUGGUGUUAAAUUCUUCCAUCAAUUGUACAUAAUUUUGAUUGGUAUAGUUAUAAAUUUAGCCUUCAAUGUUUAUAUAUUUUGUCAUUUUGGCCUUAAUUUAAAAAAAAUUCAAGAAAUUCAACCUCAACAUUUACAUAUUUACACAAACGUUGCGGGAAAAUUUUGUUAAAUUAAGACCAAAUUGCAAAGUGUGUAAAUUUUGAGGGCUAAAUUUAUAAUAUACCAACCAAAAUCAUGUACAUUUUAUGGAAAGACAUGCAUAACCCAAAGAAAUGGGAUGAAACUGAUUUUCUUUGGGUUAUAAAUUUAUAAUAACAGUAAGUUAUUAACCAUACUAUUAUCAUUAAUUUUGAGUUAGUUAUAAAUUACUGUUAUACGCCCAGUAAGUUAGGGCUCAACUUUCUCGAGAAUCUUAGAUGUCAAGUGUUUUGAAAACUUACGGAUAAAAUGAUUUUAGUAUUUUAAUCAAAUGCACUCUUUCAAACAAAUGUAACGCAAUUGGAUAAUAACAUACAACACAAAAAGAUAAUUCGAAAAUAAAAUAUACAUUAAUGAGCAAUGAAUAAUCAAUAAAUAAAUACAAACAAACAUAACAACAAUAAUCUCAAUUGUACAUUAUGCCAAUAUCAAUAUCAACAUUCAAAAGCUAAUAAAAAAAACGAGCCAAUUAAUGCAAAUGUAAACUAAAUGUACAAGUAUUGGAAUAACUAAAAAAACAAAUGGCAUGAAAGAAAUGGAAGUUGUAAAUCAAUAAAGUAUAUGUACAAAAAUAUAAAAUAAAUAAUAUACAAGAAAUUGAAAUAACCAAAAAUUGAGUUAAAAAUAAAUACUAUGUGAGACAAUAAUAUUUAAACAAAUUUUAAAAUAAAUGUUGCAUAUGAGGAAAAUCAAAAUAAGUACUAUACAAAAUAAUAUACAUAUAUUAAUCUAAUAAGUGAUAUGUAUAAAGUGAAAACUCGAUAUAAAUAAUGAUAUAUGUAAUAAUAUGUAAAAGUUGAAAUAUACAAAAUAUAGAAGAGGGUAUUUUAAAGAAUGAAAUUAUAUACAUAUAAGUAGCUUUAAAAAAUAUAUUAAAAGGGGAACUAAAACAAAUCAUAGUUAUAAUAAUAUAAAAAUAAUAAUAUAUUCAUAGAAUAAAAAAUAUAUAGAUUAUAUAUAUAAAUAUAAUAAUAAUAUUGUAUGAGAAUACUAUCAUAUAAUUCUUUAAAAUGUAAAAAUAUAAAAGAAAAUUUUAAAAAUAAAUACAUUAUAAAAUAAGACUAAUAAAAUAAAAUACAUACCAAUUAUAUUAAGCCUAUAUAAAAAAAUAUACAUAAAAAUAAUAUUCGAUAGAUCUAAGUAAUGAUAUGAUAAGUUUAAAAUUAUAGUACAUGAUAAAUUUUACAUUAUGAUGUAUGAUAAAUUUAAAUAAUAUUAAUGAUAAUUUAAAAUAAUAGUAUAUGAUAUAUUAAAAUAAUACUAAUGAUAAAUUUAAAGCAAAGUUAAGCUUAAAUAUUAAAAUAAUACUAGAUUUAAAAAUAAAUAUAUCAAAAAUAAGAAUUAAUUAGAUUUAAAAUUAAACUAAUAAAAAAUAAAUUAGAAUUGAAACAUAAUUAAAAAGAGAGAAAAUAAAAUAAAAUAAUGGGUCAAAGAUUGAAUUGAAACUAAAACAAAAUUAAAGGGGCAACAAACAUAAUUAAAAAUAAAAGAAGGGCUAAAGUGCAGCGCGCGGAUAACAUGAGGGACCGAAAGGGAAAUAUUCCCAAUACCGAAAACGCAGCGCUUUAAUAUGGAUUAAAAUGAAACAAAAAUAAAUGAGGGAUUAUAUUUAAAAAGAAAUAAAAGGACUGGAUUGAAUUGCACUAGAAAUUCGGAAGGACCAAUUUCGAAAAUAACCCAUCUUCACGAAACACGCGGAUCCCCCGGGUCGGCUCAACAAGCGGAUCGACGGCUACUAAACGGCGUUUUUGGUACUAUCAAACCUCCCAAAACGGCGCCGUAUUAUGUUAUUACUUAAACAAGAUUUUUAACAAAAAAAAAGAACAUUUGCAGCAUAAGUUUUUUUGAAAAAAAGGUUGCAGCUCUUCUUCUCUGCUAGGGUUUCAACCCUAGUCCUAGCCGCCGCCAUUUCCGCCGCAUCAAACCCGAGCCCCAUCUAACUCCGAUUUGGACGGAGUAAACGGAGCCCUGACGGCGCUUUUAUGAAGGUACGAAACUGCCUUCUUCCUUCUCCUUUACCUUUUUCGCAUAUAUAUAUAUAAAAAGAAUAGCAAAUCAAAGAGAAAAGAAAUCAUAAAAAAAACUCAGAAUAUCACCUUUUAAAAAAAACUAAUGUAGUUUUUUAUUGCCCAUUUUUUGUAUUCAGUAUCCAACCCCCUACAUUGAAGCAAUCUGCUCUUUUUAUAGCCAGAUCUAAUGAAAUUACAAAGGUUUUUUAUUUUAUUUUAUUGCUAUUCCUCGUUUUCUUUGCCGUUAUUCCCUUAUGCUUCUAGUGUAUUCCUUUCUGUUUGUUGCUGUUGCAGGUACAGCUGGAGUGCACGUGGAAAACCUAAGAAGAUUACAAAAAUUCCAAAAUAAUAUAAAAAAGCUAAGGAAAACCUAGAAAUUCAAAAAAAACAAACGUCGACAUUCAAUUUGCUGUUUCACAUUCAAUUUUUGGAGAAGUAGAAUUAUUUAACUUAUUUUCCAUCAACUUCACUUCAAUUUUCAAUCACAAUCAAUUGCAUUCAAGAGCACCACAUCUUUUUGGAUGAAACAAAGCUCUCAAUUUUAAGAUAAACGGGUCUUUAGGGUUAUUAAUUGAGGGCCUUUUCCAUAAUUGCCAUCGCUAUUUACGGGUGAUUCGGGGAUAAUAACUUCAACAUUUGUGUAUCACAUUUAAUUCGAUUCCACAUUCAAUUUUUAGUUUUUAGAGAGAUGAUUGGAUUACAACAAUGGUUUGAAGUGAAGAUAUUUCAAAUGAAGAUGAAUAAUUUAAAAUUCAGGUUAUGUUUCAUUUUAACUAAGUUAAAUGUUAAGAUUGAGAUUAAACCUUUUAGAGGUUGCUCACAAAAGGAUAAGCCUUUAUAAAAGUGCUUAAAUGAAGGCCAAAUUUUUUAAAAUAGGCAAAUAAGGUCCUAACCUUUUAAAAGGUGUUUAAAUAAAGGCUUCUCAAAUGUUGUAUAUCAGGUUAUGUAUUUUACUCUAAACACAUCGACAUUUACCUAUUUUUUUCUAUAAACUGAGUUGAAGUGUGUGAAAAAUCCUUAUUUGAACACUUCUGUAAGGGUUAAACUCUUACUGAACCAUUUUGAAAGGUUUAGUCCUUAUGUAAGCAACCUCUAAAAGAAAUACCUAAAUAUGUUUUCAUGAAUCAAGAAAUUAAAAAAGAAAUGUUGAGAAAUAUUUUAGAGAUUCUUAGCUUUGACAAGUUCCCUCCACCAUCUCCCUGCCUCCAGUCCCACUCUUCUCUUAUGCUCCUCCCAGGUUCUUGCUUUUUGUGUGUUGAAAAUUCAAAUGAACUAAAUAUCAACCUACAUCAUAAGGCACGAAAAUAUCAACCUACAUCAUAAGGCACGAAGGCCAGAAAUUACUUGAGAUCUGACAACUUUAUUUCAUUUUCAUUUUCUGUUAUUUUCUAUGUUUCUUGUCAAAUACAAUGAAAGAAGAACAUAGAAAAAUGUUGCCUAUUUAUUUCCCAAUCAUCAUGAAAUUACUUGCCAUAGACUUAGAAUUUUCUCACCAAUUUUCAAGCAAUCUGACAUGAUUUCUCAAUCACAAUUAAUUGAAUUCAAGAUCUUUUUGGAUGACACAAACAUUUCAAUUUUAACACAAACCAAUAUUUAGGUUAUACUUCAGUGCUUGACAAGCACUGUCACAUUUAUGGGAUAAUAACUCUAACAUUUUAGGAUCACAGUUAUAUUUGACUUUAGCAUUGACAUGCUUUUUUAAUAAUUAAUCUUUUAUAACAAGGUAAAUAUAGCAUCGACAUGUUUUUGGUAGGGUCGAGCAAAACCCAAUUAAAACCGAUGAUAUUGUUAAAAUCAAUUUUAAAAUCAGUUAUAAUGGAUUAAGGUAAUUAAUUAUCGAGUAAUGAAAUGCAUAAUCAAAUCAACUGAUUUUGUUAGAAACUAAAAGAAAAAGGGUUCAGCUGAAAAAUUGAUUGCCCUAUAUUAAAAUUAACGAAUCCGAUUUUUACAUAUUAGAUAAUAUCAACAUCGCAUAUAUAAUAAGAAAAAUUACGUACAAUUAUUUAUUAUCAUAAAUGGUUAGUUUAAAUUUAAAGUAAUUUAAUAUGUUUAUUGAACAUCAACGUAUAAGCUAAAUAUGUGAAAAUAUUCUAGAAACCAUUUCUAAUUGAUGAUAGGCUAAUUCAGAAUUAAGAUUAAUAUAUAAAAACUAAAUAGUAGGGUUAUAAUCCUCAAAUUACACCUAAUUUAAUUUUUCCGACAUUCUAUUUUGGAAUAAUAGAAUCGCCUUCUUUAAAAAGAAUAUGUAUUUGUAAUAGGCCAAUUUUGGCCUGACUAAAAAUCAAAUAAAAUUAACAACCCAAUUGACCCAAUGCAACACCCAAUAACCAAGUUAGCCCAAAAUUAAAAAAACAAAAAACCCUAGAACCUUCAACCGCUGCUCUCCCACAUGCGCGCCUCCAGCCCCUUCCAUGUCACCCCACGAACGGCUUCUUCGGUAUGACGGUUUUACCUGCAAAAUAGGACCAUAAACAGCAAGAAAGAAGCACACUAUAGGCACGAUAGAAUAACAGAAAAGAAAUUGAAUAACGAGGGGGCAGAGAAAAAAAAGAUUUUUUUGAUUUGUUUAUUUUUUUUUCUUUUGGGUCGAUUCGGCGAUAUAUAAGGCCGAUCCCGAAUCUGUAAGGGGGAAUCUUGUGUUGAAAAGUAUUGAAGAAAACAGAAAACAGAGAAUAAAAAAAACAAUUUUGAAGGUAUUGAGUGGGUUUCGUUUUUCCUUUCUCUUUACCGUUUUGGUUCCUUUUUUAUUUUCUUCCUAAUUUCUUAAAACAAAUAAACGAAGUAACGAGGGAAAAAGAGAAGUUUCUUACCAGCAGAGGCGCGCCGUCGGCAUUCUUGCUGGUUUUCGGCGUGAGGAGCAAAGGAGAAGAUGAAGCAGCCCUUGCGGCUGCUGUUGCUGAAAAUGAAAUGGGGUUUUGAUUAGGGUCUGAAAUGGGUUUUAUCGGCAGCAAAUGAAAUGGGGUUUUAUUUAUGGGUUAUUUAUGUUUUUAAUCUUUUUUAUUUUUCUAUCAUUUCAAAACCAUUGUUCUUAAAUUUUUAUUUUUUUUCUUUCCUUUAAUGAAAUAUUUUACCUUUUCAUUUUACUCUAGUGCUGUGCAGAAUUUUGAAAGUGGGAUUAUUUUCCCUUUUGACCCUUCAUGCUUAUGAGCAAUUUACAAAUUAGCCCUUCUGUUUUUUUUACACUACUAUUAUUAUUAUUAUUAUUAUUAUUAUUAUUAUUAUUAUUAUUAUUAUUAUUAUUAUAGCCAUAUAUUUAUACGCAUAUACACUAUAUCAUAUAAAUGCAUAUAUAUUUUAUGAUACGUAUUCAUUUUCUAUAUAUUAUAUAUAUACAUACGUAUUUUUACACAUAUAUAUACAUGUUUUUGUAGUUUAUUUAUAUAUUGUACUUAUACAUUUUUAUAUAUUUUGUAAAUAUAUAUAUAUAUGUACAUAUCUUAAAGUACACAUACUUUUAUAUACUCCUAAAUAUCAUAAUUCUUGUAACCGUAUUUAUAAAUAUACUUCCUUACAUAUAUUUUUAUUUCAUAAUUUUAAAAUAUAUAUACAUACAUAUAUUCCUUAUAUUUUAUGUACAUACACAUACAUAUGUAUAUUAAAUUUUUCAUAUAUUUCAUGGUUUUGUUGUUUCACAACAUGUCUAUCUUCUUAUACCCAUUUAAUUACGAAAGUUUUAAUUCAACUCGUUUUUUUACUGUUUUUUUUUUUACAUUAGUUGACUCGUUUUUAUUUUAUGUUGCUUUAUUUUAUUUUAUUUUAUUUUAUCUUCUAUUGGUUUGUGCUCAUGCUUUUCUCUUUAGCAUUUUAAAAUAUGUUUGUAUUUGUUUUUUAAAAAAAUGUUUCAUUUUUUAUUGAAGCAUGAAAAUUAUUUUAUUUCUUAAAUUUUUAAAAUAUUUGGCAUUCACGUUUUUCGAGAAAGAUCGUGUCCUAACUUACUGGGCUUCAAUUCUUUCGAUGGAUUUAGAGAGCCAAGUAUUUAUUUUGCAAUAAAAUCACACAAAUAUCAAAUAAAAGCUUAUUCUCAGGAAUCCAAAAAUGUCGGGUCCUAACUUACUGGUCAUGACAUUUUAUUAUCUCGAAAUAAGAUUUUCUAAGACAAAAGGUCAUAUUCGGUAUUUGGAAUUUUGAGAAAUUGUGUCCUAACUUACUGGGUUUUGAUUUUCUUAAUUUGACCUAAAUAACCGAAUAUUCUUAGAUUUAACUGUAUGAGUUUUAAAAUCAAUAGACAAACUUAAUUUUGAAGAUUUAAAAAUAUGGUGCCCUAACUCACUGGGUGUGAUGUUUUAUUUCUCUGAAAUAAGAAUGUUUUAUUAUUUUAAUCCAUUCACGAGUUAAAAGUUUUCUCUUAAAAUCUUUUCAAAUUUUCGACACCAAGACAUUAAACAAUCAAUUCGGUAAUUUGGGCAUUACGAAGGUGCUAACCCUUCCUUGUGCGUAACUGACUCCCGAACCUGUUUCCUAAAAUUUCGUAGACCAAAUUUAUUUUUUUUAGGCGAGCUGAUCACACCUCAGUAAAGGACCGGUGGCGACUCCAAUUUUCGUUUUAAAAGUCGAUAACUAAUUUUAUUUUUCAAAAAAUGGUUUCGACAACUUGGCGACUCCACUGGGGACAUGUUAGAGAGUCGAGCCAUGAAUUGAUUAUUUUUGUCUUUUUUGUCGAAAAUCAAAAUGUUGUUUUAAAUCGUGAUUCCCCUUUGUAUUCAUUAGUUUUCAUCAUGAUAUGCUUGCUUAAUUGGUCUAAGUCUGUUAGUUUAUUUGCAUUAUGCAUUUCAUGGUCAAUUUUACCCCUCUAAGUGGGAGUGAGAAACUAGUCCUUCGUGAGGUUUUCACCUCCGUGCAGGAUAGUGGAUUGCUUUCGGGAUACAUCCGUACUUAUGUCUUUGUGAGAUUUUUAUCUUCGUGUAGCCAUAGGAAAAUGUAUCCCCCUGAACCGAACUCGAUCUAUAUGAGCCUAUAAUGGGUGAAGAUUGAUGAAUCUGCUGGUUCGGGUACCCUUGCUCUAGAAGCCAAACUUCAUAUAGUGAACCUUAGGAACUCACCCUAGGUAGAAUUACUUUGAACCUUAGUAGAUACCCGACUAGGAGUUUUUAUUAUUUUUUAAUUGUAUUGGAUUUGAUGUUUAUACCUGAUACUAACUUGUUGUGUUUUGUUUUGAAUGCAUGACAUUUUGAAUGCAUGGCAUUUCAUUAUAGAAAAAAGGUGUUGGUUCACGUUCAGUUGCUAAAUAGAGAGCUUGUUAUGGAAAACGAAUUUCUUGAUAAAGUGGAAAACAAUACGGCUACAUGAAUAUAUUCCGAGAAACACAAGAAAGGUGAUGGAGGAAUACAUGUUACUUUGUGGCUCGAGGAUUCAAGCUGAUUAUUUAAGAGUUUUUGACAUUCUAACUUCCUUAAAGAAGAUGAGGAGUAUUACGGGGAUGGGCAGACGAUGGAUCAUAACCAGGAUCAAGCAAAAGAAGAUAGAGGAGGCACCCUUUUGAAGAAUUCGCAAGGUUUAUCUUAGCAUUCGGAUGAAGAAAGAGAAGAUGUCCCUGCUUGGAGUAUGAGGGCAAAGCCGUAUAUAUACCGCUUUAUGUAAAGAAAUUUGUCUUUUAGUAAAGUUUUCUAAAUGCAAUUGAAUCAGAAUCAACGUCUCUUUAUGCAUUCAUUUCAUGCAUUUGCAUUACAUGACAUCAUAUGCAUUAAAAUCUAUUAAAAGGGCUUAAUUGAGUAAAAUUAUUUCAGUUAAUUUAGAAAACCGACACCCUUAUGGCACCCAAGCAAAGACUAGAGAAAUGGACCAAAGGUUGGAAAAAUUAGAGCGAAUGCAAAUAUAGAUGCAGGAGCAACUAACCAAAUUUCAACAGGAAAUGAGAGAUAUGAUGAUAAGAUUACAGAGAGCUAUGACGAAUCAGUUAACUCGGUUGCUAGCUGGAGAGUUAGAAAAAGGGAAAGACUCGAUGGUUUAUUGUGGGGUUGAUAAUGAGGAUCUUGCCUAUUCCCUAGGUAGUACUCCAAUAAGUGUCCAGGUCUAGCCAGAUGGGCGUCCGCAUGGGGCACUCUUUACUAUCAAAUCCUAAUAGUAUCAAACUGGUACAUCGACACCAGUGAGUUGCUUGACAGGCUCAGGAUCCAAUCUAAGGAACAAUUUAGCUAAUCCUGUUGCUCUUGAAAAUCCAGCCGAAAUAAAGCAGGCAAGGGUAGAGUACUCAGAUACUAUAAGAGCCCUAAGGAAGAAGGGGAAUAAUGGGGAUAAUGAAGGCAGAUAUAACAAGGGCCACUCAAAACCAAUCACUAUGGGCUGGACAAAGAUAGAAAUCACCAGCCAUCAGAGCCCUUUAAAGCGAGAAUCUUACACGAAGACAAAUAUAGAAAGGCUUCAGUUCACGCCUAUACCGAUGUCAUAUAGUGAGCUAUAUCAAAUCUUAUUUAAUGCACAUGUGGUGUCCCCCUUCUACUUGAAACCCAUGCAGCCCCCAUUUCCUAAAGGAUACGAUGCAAACAUCCAGUGCGAAUAUCAUGCAGGAAUCACGGGGCAUUCGAUAAAAAACUGCACCGCAUUCAAGAAGCUAGUUGAAAGGUUCAUCAAUAGGGGUAUUGUAAAGUUUGAUGACUCAUCUAAUCUGCUAUCCAAUCACAUUGAUAGUGGGGUAAGAGUGAGAGCAAGAAAGGGAUUAGCUAUUUCUGAAUUAAGAGGAAAUCAUAGAAAGACAAUGAACUAUCGUGAGUUCCAUCACGAGGAGGGAUACGAGACCCAAGAGAGUGUGGAACUCAAGGCCUUGGUUCCGGGCAUGAUAGAUGACAAAGAGAUGGAGUUUUCUAAGGAAAUUAAAGAAGUGAGAAAUAUACACACAAUGUUGGGAAGUGUUCACAUCAAUGCCAUAUAUGAAGACACACUUGAAAAUGGACCUUGUUAGAUAUCUACUCUUAUAAACUUAGGAGUGUUCUAAAUAAUCAGAUUGUAGAAGAAAUUUUUGUAGCAUCUAGAGUUUACUUAGAGUAAUGUUCAGAAAACACUUGUUACUUUUAGCCUAGAGGCAAUAAGAAUUCUUUUAUGAAAUAGGCUCAUGUUUGAACGUCGUUAUUCUAAUAAAAUACAUCUUUGCAUUUAUUUUUGAGCCAAUAUCCUUUCAUUCUUUUUGAAUAAUUUUUCUUUCAUUCUUUUGGAUUUUCUUCCAAAUCAUUCAUUCAUUCAUUCAUAAUCACUGUACAAAUAACUAUUCAUACUUCAUACAUUCUUUGUAUAUUCUUUUAUACUUAUAAUAGGUCCCUAGAUAUCAAUGUCAUGAGUGACACUGCUACAAUUUAGAAUCUCCUUUUGAGCAAGACAUGUGUUUAGAGGGAUCUCAUAACUUUGAAGAUGACAUAGACCGUGGCCUAUCUCCGGACUUGUUGAGGAUGGUAAAGCAGGAAAAGAAACAAAUUUACCUCAUGAGGAGACAAUGGAGAUUGCGACCUUGAGGGAACAUGCAUAACCAAAGAAAUAAAUGAGGACCUUAUUGAGUUACCUCAAGAGUUCAAAGAUAUCUUCACAUGGUCAUACCAGGAUAUGCCCGAGUUAAGCAUUGAUAUUGUAAUCUGAGCAACAGCAUGACGUCAAAAUUUGCAGUAUGUUUAAGAUUAACAUCAUGAACGAUGCAGUUAGAAUUCUUUACCAGGGCAAUGUCUUAUUUUUUAGCUCAUCAUAGUUUUGCCCGUUGAAGUUAAGUUUCCAUUUCUCUGUAUUUUUUGGAUUUCAUCCUAAUUGAAGAGGAAGAUCAAAAGUUUUUUCGUCAUAGUUAAAUUUCGCCCUAAAAGGCUCUAUGAGAGCAACCUGAUACCAAUGAAGAUCUUUCGCAUACAAAAUAAAAGUAGAAGAUUUUAUGUGAAAGACCUUAUCUAGAAUAACAUUGAUUCUGAUCGAAAGGGAUGACUAGGACUUGUCUAAUCUUAUGAGUGCAGUUCUUUCAAAAAAAUAAAAAAAAUAAAAAAAUAAAUAAAAAGAAAGGAAAGGAAAAAAGAAUAAAAAACAAAAACAAAAGAAACAAAAUCUCUAUCAGGGCAAUACUUUUCUCUUUAGCUUAUCGCGAUUUUUCCAUUGAAGUUGAAAUUCUUUCUCACCGGGUAUAGGCUGUGCUGAAGUAGAAUGGAGAUCCAAUCUCGAUGAUCAGUCGAACCUGAUAAAAAGAAAAGGGCUAAAAGCUGUUCAUCACGGUCAGAUGUACUAGAAACGGACGAUGCGAGCCAUUAACAAAAAGGUUCGUCCUAGAAAAUUUUGCGAGGGGGACCUAGUGUUGAAAAGAUUCUUCCUCUACAGAAGGAUUUUAGAGAAAAAUGACUGCCAAAUUGGGAAGGUCCUUAUGUUGUAAAGAAGACCUUUUCUAGAGGAGCACUGAUCUUGAGUGAGAUGGAUAGUACAAAACUUAUCGAAUCCUGCAAACUUAGAUUCAGUCAAGAAAUACUUCACUUAAAGAAGGAGAAAUGACCAAGGUGAAAACCCACAAAGGGCACUUUGAGUCUUAAAAAAAUGAAAAAAUGAAAAUGAAAUGGAGAGGUUAAGGUGAAAACCCGCAAAGGGUGCCUUAGACCAAAGGGGAUUUGAGUUGAAAACCCAAAAAGGGCAGCUCAAAUUUUGAUCAGAAUAAGCCAUGAGGUGAUCAGGGUUACUCGAGUGUUGAUCAAAGUGGGGCAUGCGGUGAUCUUGCUUUGCCUGAAUCAGCAGAAAAGGGUAUGCGACAUCUUGGAGCAUCGGAAAAGUAUUGUAGAUCUCCUAAGUACAUGUCAAACUUGGAAUGGUCUUCAGAAAGUUUGUACAGAGAGUUCAAGCUAUGAUAUCUGAGGCACCUAGCCUUCAUACUAUUUAUAUUGAAUUGUUUAUUCUUGGAAUACUUCAUUCUUUUUCAAGAGACAAGUCAAUUCCUCUUUUACUCGCAAUAUUAUUGAUAAUUUAUUCAUUUCAAGCUAUGCUCUCAAAUCAAUUCUAUUUUUUUCAUUGUUUUGUUCUUUUUUGCAAGUAUGUUGCAUUAGAAUAAUGAUUAAUGGACUAAUAAAACUUUCACAAGGGAAGUUUUACAUAUUACUCUAGCAGUCUAAAUAAUACAAGAUUUUAAAAAAAGGACUAUUGUUUAGAACGCACUAAGUUUAACGGUUGAAAUAUCUAGGAAGGAAUAGUCUAAAUUGAGACUAUCCCUUCAUAUUUUGUUGUCAAAGCAUUGAUUAAACAAAAUGACAAGAUGUCGUGUCGGUGAUAAGGCUUCAAUGAACAAGCAAGCAAUGAUCACCAAGCAAUAGGAUGAGGUUUCCUCGGAGAAGAAAGCCUUUAUUUGUGCAUGGGCAUUUGGUAUGACACCCUGGGAAUGGUGGAAAGGACCAAAGAGCUUCACAUUCUGUAUCCCUGAACUAUGAUAGGAGAGGAUUGAGAAAGGACCAGAUUUUUUUACCCUUGGGUUACAGCGGGAGAAUGAUGGUACAAAUGUUGCAUCCCAGUGGAUUGAAUUUUGAAGUUCACAGUGGGAAGCAAUUUGAUUAAGUGUUUUUUAGAGAUGCCAGCCGAGCAAGAAGGUGUUUUAGCACGUUAGUGAUAAAGCCUUAAUAAACUUCGAGUAAUGACAACCUAAGCGGGAUCAUUCUCAAAAGAAUAAUAUUCUAUAUUCAUGCAAAUGUCAUUCAUACACGUUUAGUUAGGAGCAUUUGAUUCAUUCUGAUCAUGACAUCCUAAUCACUAGGCAUAAUUAGGUUCAUAAUUGAAUUAUACAGGUCAUGCUCCCCAGAGAAUAAACCGAAGAUACCAGCCUUGUCUCCCUGGGCAGUAGUGGAGUAGGUUGAAAAUAGCAGAUAUUGUCUUCCUGUAUUGGCAGCGAAGUAGAUCGAAGAUACCAGCCUUGUCUCCUUGGGCAGUAGUGGAGUAGGCUGAAAAUAGAGAUCUUGUUUUCCUGUAUUGGCAGCGAAGUAGAUCGAAUAUCCCAACCUUGUCUCCCUGGGCAGUAGUGGAGUAGGUUGAAAAUAGCAUAUCUUGUCUUCCUGUAUUGGCAUCGAAGUAGAUCGAAGACUUCAGCCUUGUCUCUAUGGGCAGUAGUGGAGUAGGUUGAAAAUAGCAGAUCUUGUCUUCCUAUAUUAGCAUCGAAGUAGAUCGAAGACUUCAGCCUUGUCUCUAUGGGCAGUAGUGGAGUAGGUUGAAAAUAGCAGAUCUUGUCUUCUUGUAUUAGCAGUGAAGUAGAUUGAAGACCUCAGCCUUGUCUCCCUGAGCAGUAGUGGAGUAGGUUGAAAAUAGUAGAUAUUGUCUUCCUGUAUUAGCAGCGAAGUAGAUCGAAGACCUCAGCCUUGUCUCCCUGAGCAGCAAUGGAGUAGGUUGAAAAUAGCAGAUCUUGGCUUCCUGUAUUGGCAGCGAAGUAGAUCAAAGACCUCAGCCUUGUCUCCCUAAGCAGUAGUGGAGUAGGUUAAAAAUAGCAUAUCUUGUCUUCCUGUAUUGGCAGUGAAGUAGAUCGAAGAUACCAGCCUUAUCUCCCUAAGAAGCAUUGGAGUAGGUUGAAGACGGCAAAUCUUGUCUUCCUGUACUGGCAGAGAAGUAGAUCGAAGGUACCGGCCUUAUCUCCUUGAGAAGCAGUGGAGUAGGUUGAAGAUAGCAGAUUUUGUCUUCCUGUACUGGCAGAGAAGUAGAUCGAAGACGCCAGCCUUAUCUCCCUGAGAAGCAGUAGAGUAGGUUGAAGAUAGCAGAUCUUAUCUUCUUGCACUGGCAGUGAAGCAGAUCGAAGACACCGACUUUGCCUCCCUGGGUUUACAGCAGAGUAGGUUGAAAAUAGCAGAUCUUGCCUUCCUGUACUGGCAGCGAAGCAGAUCGAAGACACCAGUCUUAUCGCCUUGACGUUGCAAUGGAAUAGAUUGAAGCCACGACAACCAACAUUACUUCUCUAGCGUUGCAGCGGAGCAGAUUGAAGCCACGACGGCGAAUCUUAUCUCCCUGGCGUUAAGACUUGGAUUUGUUGAAGUGGAGUGGAUUAAACCUGUGGGCAGCGAAUCCUAUUUCUUUGGCAUUACAGUGGAAUAGAUUGAAGCCACAACGGUGGAUCUUAUUUCUCUGGUGGUGUAAUGGAAUAGGUUGAAGUCGAGACGGCGAAUCUUGUUUCCCCAACAUUGUAGUUAAACAAAUUGAAGUAAAUAAUCCUAUCUCAUUGAAGUUACAGUGGAGUGGAUUAACAUUAGAUCUUAUCUCUCUGAAGUUGUAGAAGAGCAGAUCGCAUCAAAUCUUAUCUCCCUGAAGUUGCAGUGGAACAGAUUGAAGAAAUCAAUCCUAUCUGCCUGAAGUUACAGUGGAGUGGAUUAAAAUCAGGUCUUAUCUCUCUGAAGUUACAGAAGAGCAGAUCGCAUCCAGUCUUAUCCCCCUAAAGUUGCAGUGGAGCAGACAGAAGAAAGUAAUCUUAUUUCCCUGAGGUUGCAGUGGAGUGGAUUAAAAUCACAGAUCUCACCUCUCUAGAGUUGCCGUAGAGUGGAUCGCAUCAGACUUAUCUCUAAAGUUGUAGUAAAACAAGUUGAAGCUAUGAGUCUUAUCUCUCUGAAGUUGUAGUGGAGCAGACUAGAGAUAGCAAAAUUUUCUCUUUUGAGAAACUACAAGGUACAAGUCCUAUCUCCUUGAUGUUGCAGUGGAGUGGAUUAAAGCACCGAUUCCUAUACCUCUGAAGACGCAGUAGGUUGGAAUGAAGCUACUUGAAGAGCACCAAAGUCCAGCACGACUAGGCAAAAUUGGUCAUUUCUAAAGUCUUUGCUCUGUUCUCGUUACACGAUAACGAGCAAAGAGGGGCAGCUGUAAUAGGCCAAUUUUGGCCUGGCUAAAAAUCAAAUAAAAUUAACAACCCAAUUGACCCAAUGCAACACCCAAUAACCAAGUUAGCCCAAAAUUAAAAAAACAAAAAACCCUAGAACCUUCAACAGCUGCUCUCCCACAUGUGUGCCUCCAGCCCCUUCCAUGUCACCCCACGAACGGCUUCUUCAGUAUGACGAUUUUACCUGCAAAAUAAGACCAUAAACAGCAAGAAAAAAGCACACUAUAGGCAUGAUAGAAUAACAUAAAAGAAAUUGAAUAACGAGGGGGCAGAGAAAAAAAGAUUUUUUUAUUUGUUUAUUUUUUUCUUUUGGGUCGAUUCGACGAUAUAUAAGGCCGAUUCCGAAUCUGUAAGGGGGAAUCUUGUGUUGAAAAGUAUUGAAGAAAACAAAAAACUGAGAAUAAAAAAAACAAUUUUGAAGGUAUUGAGUGGGUUCCAUUUUUCCUUUCUCUUUACCGUUUUGGUUCCUUUUUUAUUUUCUUCCUUCUUUUUUAAAACAAAUAAACAAAGUAACGAGGGAAAAAGAGAAGUUUCUUACUAGCAGAGGCGCGCCGUCGGCAUUCUAGCUGGUUUUCGGUGUAAGGAGCAAAGGAGAAGAUGAAGCAACCCUUGUGGCUGCUGUUGCUGAAAAUGAAAUGGGGUUUUGAUUAGGGUCUGAAAUGGGUUUUAUUUGCUGCAAAUGAAAUGGGGUUUUAUUUAUGGGUUAUUUAUGUUUUUAAUCCUUUUUAUUUUUCUAUCAUUUUAAAACCAUUGCUCUUAAAUUUUUAUUUUUUUUCUUUCCUUUAAUGAAAUAUUGAAACCGUUUCUACUCUAGUGCUGUGCACAAUUUUGAAAGUGGGAUUAUUUUCCCUUUUGACCCUUCAUGCUUAUGAGCAUUUUACAAAUUAGUCCUUCUGUUUUUUUUACACUACUAUUAUUAUUAUUUUUAUUAUUUUAAAUUAUUAUUAUUAUUAUUAUUAUUAUUAUUAUGGUAUUAUUAUAGCCAUAUAUUAUACGUAUAUAUUUAUACACUAUAUCAUAUAAAUGCAUAUAUAUUUUAUGAUACGUAUUCAUUUUCUAUAUAUUAUAUAUAUACCUACAUAUUUUUACACAUAUAUACAUGUUUUCGUAGUUUAUUUAUAUAUUAUACUUAUACAUUUUUAUAUAUUUUGUAAAUAUAUAUAUGUACAUAUCUUAAAGUACACAUACUUUUAUAUACUUCUAAAUAUCAUAAUUUUUGUAACCGUAUUUAUAAAUAUACUUCCUUACAUAUAUUUUUGUUUCAUAAUUUUAAAAUAUAUAUACAUACAUAUAUUCCUAAUAUUUUAUGUACAUACACAUACAUAUGUAUAUUAAAUUUUUCAUAUAUUUCAUGGUUUUGUUGUUUCACAAAAUGUCUAUCUUCUUAUACCCAUUUAAUUACAAAAGUUUUAAUUCAACUCGUUUUUUUACUGUAUUUUUUUUACAUUAGUUGACUCGUUUUUAUUUUAUGUUGCUUUAUUUUAUUUUAUUUUAUCUUCUAUUGGUUUGUGCUCAUGCUAUUCUCUUUAGCAUUUUAAAAUAUGUUUGUAUUUGUUUUUUAAAAAAAUGUUUCAUUUUUUAUUGAAGCAUGAAAAUUAUUUUAUUUCUUAAAAUUUUAAAAUAUUUGGUAUUCAUGUUUUUCGAGAAGGAUCGUGUCCUAACUUACUGGGCUUCGAUUCUUUCGAUGGAUUUAGAGAGCCAAGUAUUUAUUUUGCAAAAAAAUCACAAAAAUUUCAAAUAAAAGCUUAUUCUCGGGAAUCCAAAAAUGUCGGGUCCUAACUUACUGGUCAUGACAUUUUAUUAUCUCGAAAUAAGAUUUUCUAAAACAAAAGGUCAUAUUCGGUAUUUGGAAUUUUGAGAAAUUGUGUCCUAACUUACUGGGUUUUGAUUUUCUUCAUUUGACCUAAAUAACUGAAUAUUCUUAGAUUUAUCUGUGUGAGUUUUAAAAUCAAUAGACAAACUUAAUUUUGAAGAUUUAAAAAUAUGGUGCCUAACUCACUGGGUGCGAUGUUUUAUUUCUCUGAAAUAAGAAUGUUUUAUUAUUUUAAUUCAUUCACGAGUUAAAAGUUUUCUCUUAAAAUCUUUUCAAAAUUUCGACACCAAGACAUUAAACAAUCAAUUCGGUACCGAUUUUGGGCGUUACGAGGGUGCUAACCCUUCCUCGCGUGUAACUGACUCCCGAACCUGUUUUUUAAAAUUUCGUAGACCAAAUUUUUUUUUUAGGUGAGCCGAUCACACCUCAGUAAAGGACCGGUGGCGACUCCAAUUUUCGUUUUUAAAGUUGAUAACUAAUUUUUGUUUUUAAAAAAUGGUUUCGACAGUAUUAAUUUAAAAAUUUAAUACUAUCAAUAAAUUUAGAUGCAUUAUUAAGUACCAACUAAACAAUACUUAAAUAUAGAUGUGUUUUAUAGAAAAAAGUUAUCAACUUAAAGAAGUUGCAACAAAAAUUUAAAAAAUUCAUUUAUCAAACGAAUAUUUAAAACAUAUAAUCUAAACUGUGACAUAAUAAAACACAUGAGCAUAACUUGGAUUUACCAAAAAUCUAUGUAUUUUUCUAAAUUUUAAAUUUUAGUCCCUAUAUUUUAAUUUAGAGACAUUGAGUCACUAUACUUUUUUAUUUAAAAAUCUUGGUCCCUUCAUCAAUUUUAUAAUUAUAAUGGUUGAUUUAGUUGUUGUAAAAAAAGGUAGAAUAACUUUUUUAGCCUUAAACAUUUGCAGUUUUUGUUAAUUUGGUCCUUACUCUUUAAAAUUACAUAAAAAUUGAAAAAAUAUUUUAAAAAUUAAUUUAUUUCGUAUUUUUAAAAACAUUUAUAGUUUUUUUUUGUGGUUUGGUAACUUAUCAACUCGACUCUUAAUUGUAACCAACUCUUUUGACCUUUUUCGUACCCUUAACCUAAGCCCCGUUACAACUUUCUAAAGACCUCUUGACUGGUGUAUCAUCUCGAUUUGUUUUUAUAGUGGUGGAAAUUUGGUUUUCAAGCAAGCCUAUAAUAAUCACAUUUUUCGUUCGACUGUUGACCACACAGUACUUGAACCUUAAACACUUUGAGUGUUUUGAGUGAAUCUUAGUUAGGGUAUUGAUUAUUGUUGAGUUUGAAUUUCAGUUAAUUCUUGAGAUAGAGGAGACACCUGUGUUUUUUGUGCUUUACAAAUUUCUGCUUAGAUUGCUUUUAUUCUUUAGUCUCAUUCUAGUUUCAAUUUCUAGUGCAUGAUUAUCUGUAGAUUAUUCCUAAGGCAUUGUCAGUGAAAAUAAUAAAUUGAGGGAGAUUAACUUGAAUAAGGGUUGAGAAUUUUGCUUAAGGACAAAUGAAUGCUUAAAUGUAGGGAUAUUUGAUAAGUGCUAAAAUUAAUAUGUUUUAACAUCAUUCUUAAUGUGGUUUUGGUUGAUUAUUCGAUGUUAAUUUUGAAAUUUAUGCUCCUAGUCCUUUCAAUUCGUGUUUUUAUGUUAAUAGAACAUUUGGGAGGAAAAUGAGCAAAAAUCAGAAAAUGGGGACAAACUAUAGGACCCACACGAGCUGACCUAUUCCACAUGUGGCAGGCCGUGUCGAUUUCGUAGAUUUGCACUCUGAACUGCGAAAAAUGUGAAUUUUAAGUUCUUCGAGCAUUUUAAGACAUAUAUAUGAAAAAAAAUAAGAAGAUAGGAGAGAACCUUCCUAGAAUAUUUAAGAAAACAACUCCAAAGACACCAUUGAAGCCCACUCUGAAGUAAAUUUUCAUCAAGAUUAACGAUUUCCAGUUGAUUUCUUAUGAGAUUAUCAUGAGUUUCUUUAUUUCUUUCGGUUAUAUUGCCCUUUAGAUGUUUUAUUUUUAAGCAUGAACUAAUUUUCUAAAUACCUAAGAGAGAUGAACCCUAUGAUAGAUUGUGACUCCCCAAAUCUGACCGGGAUAGACCGGCCCAAAUUCGAAAUAUUACAUUAGCCACCUAAGUGACUCUCCAGCUAAUGACCACCCAAGACACACCCCGACCUUAUAAAACCUCAAUAUUAUCUAAUUAUUAGUUAUUUAUUAAUGCAAAAGUAAAUUAUGUGUCAAUUUUAAACUUUUCCUAGGUAAUUUAACCUAAGGGCAAUUUCAUCAUUUUACCACCUAAAACUAACCUGAUUUUAGAUCUAAGUGUUUACCAACCUUCUUUUAGUCAAAUCACGCAAGCCUAAAAUUUUCAACUUAAUUUGAUUUCGUUUACUAUGUCUAAUUCAAGUUUUAUUAUUAGGGACUAAAUUGUAACUUAAACAAAUUAGAAUACCAAUUUAAAGAGACAAAAUUUCAAAAUUCCAAAACCCACACGGGUAUGUGGGUAAGUGACAUGGGCGUCUGGAGACUAGAGCAAUCACACACGAGCAUGUGGGAUUGAAAAAAAUGAAAUAAAUUAUUCCACUCAAUUUUCCGACAACCAUGCUAUACUACCAAACCAAAUAAUGCUUCAAGCUUUGAAUAUGGUCGAAUCUAAAAUUUCUUUUAGAGGAAUCAGAAUUAAAUUAUAAAAUUUUGAGAAGUUAAAAUAUAAUUUUAUCAUGUAUUAAUUUAUUAUUUUUUAAAGGGACUUAAUAGAAUUUUUUUUCCCCAUUUUGGUUGGGCCAAUACCCCUGCCUACCUCUUUAAAUUUGCUCCAACCCUAAACCUAAUAUUCGAGUUCGAUUAACAACAAUAUAUAGUUUAGUAUUUGUGGAAGUUUGACGAAGAAAAUUUUUUUUAGAGGUUUAAAUUAUAAAUUUUUGAAACAUUAAAAUAAAUUUGUAUUUUUAAUUACCUUUGGGAUCAUACGGGUGAUUUUGAUGAUGUUAAUGGUUAUUUGGUGGAGAAGGUGAAAAAGAAACAAAUGAUUCAUUAUAUAUAAUAUAAUUAUGAAAUUCAAGCCAUAUAUUGUAUGUUUCAUACAUAAAAAUUUCAUGGGACGUCCAAAGGUAAUUAAAUGACUUGUAGGCUUGCUGAAUUUCUUUGAAAGGCCCAAAGGCUAUUUAACAUUCACAAAAUAAUCUCUAAAUACUGUAAAGACAAAUCAAAUUCACAAUUGCAUUAGAGUCGAUUAAGCUAAGCAUUGGCAAAUAUUACUUUGAUUUUGCAUGCAAUAUUGGCAAAACCCCCUCUUACAUUUGAAAAACAACAUAAUCCAUGAAACAUUGAUAGCCCAAUACAAAUUUCAUCGGGAAAAAGGUCUCUUUGUUUUGUAGAACAUGUUAGUAAAGAUGUGGAGUUUCGUUCUUCUUAUUGGCCUCCUUUAGCUUUCCUUGUUCAACAACCACUAGCCAAAAACACAGUUAGAUUAGAUUAUGAAUGAUACUUUUAACUAUGACAAUAUUAAAUACAAAACACUCUAAAUAACUCUAAAUAAAUGGAAAGCAGCAAAUUACUUGACGAGGCAAGCUAGCUCAAUUAAGACCAUUGUGUUAUUCUUGUCUCUGAAUUGAAAAAUUUAGAAGGAAAUAAAGAGAAAGACUUAGAAAAUACUUGAAAACAGAUAAAACUUAUAUGUCAUUUAAAAUAAAAAAAUUUCUAUUUAAGCCGUUUAAAAUUUUUAAGAUUUUUAAAAUUUUAAAAUGAUAAAGGUAAAAUUAUACUUUGGCAUCCCAAAAAUGAUAAAACUUUGAUUUAAUCCUUUAGAAAUUAUAAAAAUAUAGGCUAUUAAAAUGAUAAAAUUACAUUUUUACUAUAGUAAAAAUUACAAUUUAAUUUCACCCCUAAAAGGAUUUUCUGGGUUCGCCCCUAACAAAGAUUAAAAUAAAAUUAUACCGUAAAUGGAAAAAGAAACUAAGAAAAUCCAAUCUAACAAAGAAAAUAACUUGAUGUCCAAAAGCUACCAUAAACCGUAAUUCAUGGGAAGGCUUGUUGCUUAUUUUAUUGGUUUCCAUUUUGAUUUGCAAAAGAAGUUUGAAUUUUGAAGAGAGCCUACUACGUGAGAGCAAAAGCAAAAAAAAUAGUUUAUAUGAUUAAAAUUCCAGAAUAGAUUAAAAAUGUUGAAUUAAAGAUAAAAUUAAGUGUGAAUUAAUAACCACAAGUUUACUCAUUACUCACCAUCUCUGUUAAAAAUGUUGGAUGCUGUUUAGCAACCUUUGUUUGAUUUUCUUCAGCUCAACCACAACAUCUUUCAUAUCUUUUCUUUCUUCUGGCAACUCAGCUGAACAAUUCAAAGCCAACUCCAUGAUAGAUGAAAUACAAUUUGCUUUAACAGCAAUGUACUCAUCCUCUCUUCUUAAUAAAUCAACAUCUGCAAUUUCUAUGGCUCCUUUAGGCAAUGAACUUUCCAUCCAAUGCCUCAUAGUCUCUUCUUCAACAAAAACAUUAUCAGUGGGCUUUUUCUUUGUGAAAGUUUCUAUAAGGACGAUCCCAUAACUAUAGACGUCAGAUUUUAUAGAAACAAGUCCUGCUGAUCCAAAUUCUGCAUUUCAAGUAUAAUUAGAACAUCAUCAAUCCUCAAUUAUUUCUAAGAUGCUUAUUCAAAUAUAUAUCCACAUACACAAGAAACAAAAAUAUAAAAUGCAAAUUAGGAAAAUAAUCGUACAAAAAUAAAAAAGAAUUCACCUGGUGCCAUAUACCCGAUAGUUGCAAGAGUCAUGGUUUGCUUCAUUACUUCACCUUCUCCCAACAAUUUGGCAACGCCAAAAUCUCCAACAUGUGCAACCAUGUCUUCAUCUAGUAAAAUAUUGCUUGGUUUUAUGUCACAAUGAAUUAUAGGUGUUGGAUGUCCAUUGUGGAGGUGUUCUAUAGCUACCGCAACAUCUAUCAUUAUGUCGACCCUUUGUAUGAUAUCAAGGAAACAAUUUUCAGAAUGUAACCAUUUCUCAAGGUUUCCAUUAGACAUGUAAUCAAGCACCAAGGCUUUGAAGUCAACACUUGAGCAGCAAGUAAUGACCUUCACAAUAUUACGAUGAACUAUAUUAAGCAUAGCAUCACAUUCAAUGUCAAAACUCCUAAAUGCUCCCUCUGUUUGCAAAUUGAAAACUUUUAUUGCAACUUCCAUUCCAUCUGAAAGCCUCCCUUUAUAUACAUAUCUAAAACUCCCUGAACCAAGCAUAUUGCUUUCCCCAAAUCCAUUAGUUGCUCGGGAAAGCUCAGCAUGUGAAAUUCUUCUCCGUGUUUUCAAAGACAACAAAUCAUCUUUAAUUGGUAGAGUUGUACUCCUUUGGCAUCUUGUAUACAUAAUAGUUAAGACUAUUAGUACUACGACAAUACCAAUUGUUGGUAAACCAUACCUAAAAGCAUGCAAUAGAAUCAUUUGGGAGUUUUUGUGGAUGUCGUUUUUGCAAGGUGGGACUAGCAACCUAGGUGGACCACAAAGUGCAUAAUUCUUCAUAAAUGAUGUGCUAGAAAAGCUUGAAAAACAUCCUUUGCUUGGAAUUUCCCCUUCAAGUCUAUUGAAAGACACAUUAAAAUACUUAAGAUAUAAAAGCUUUUCCAAAGAUUUGGGAAUGACUCCAGAGAGAUUGUUAUUGCAUAAAUCCAAGAAUUUCAAACUAAUCAACCCAUCAAAUGAUUCAGGGAUAUGACCAUGUAGUAUAUUAUUUGAUAAAUCUAAUGAAACCAAAGUUUGAAGACCCCCAAAUGUGGAUAAGACAUCGCCCGUGAGAAGAUUCUUUGAUAAAUUUAGUUUCAGUAGACUCCUCAAAUUUCCAACAUCAAUAGCAUGAGAAUUGUGAAGAUGGUUUGAUGAUAAAUCUAUUUCUAAGAUAUCUUUAAGAUUCCACAAAGUUGAGGGUAUUGUGGAACUCAAUUUGUUGGAAUCUAAGUAAAGAUAUCUCAAAGAAGUAAUAUUACCCAAACAAGAGGGUAUGGAUCCAUGCAGCUUAUUCAACCCUAAAAACAAGUUGUAUAAUCUCUCCAAAUCACAAAGGCUUUCUGCGAUGGGCCCUCCUAAUUUAUUAGAGGAAAUACCUAGACCUUGGAGAUUUCGCAGUCCUCCUAUUGAUGUUGGAAUGAAUCCACUUAAUUUAUUAUAGCCAAGUUGUAAAAGCAAUAGGUUGGUUAAGUUACCUAUUUCCAUAGGAAUAAUGCCUUGAAGCUCACACUCAUCGGCAUAAAAGUAUUGAAGGGAUUUUGAAAGGUUCCCAAUAUAAGUAGGAAGAACGCCACUCAAUGGAUUUCCUGAAACAUCUAUUGUGCUCAAAUUCCUACAAUUCGUCAAAGAAGAAAGAAAGCUCCACUCAUGAUAAGUAGCAGAUCCUGUGAUCAAAUUAUUGUCAGAGAUUUGGAGCCAUUCAAGUUGUCUUAAGCUGCCAAGCGUUUUAGGGAUUGGGCCAGAGAAUAAGUUAUGUGCCAAGUCUAGUUCCUUAAGCAUGGAAGCAUUGGAGAUAGAGUAAGGAAUGUUUCCGCUAAGUUUAUUUCCCCACAAUAAAAGAAUCUCAAGCUUUGGAGCAUUGGUGAUGGGUGGUAAAUUACCUGUAAAAUAGCAUCUUUUAGAAUACAUAUUCAUUGAAUACAAAAUUCACAAAAUAUAUAAUACAUUAAAAUAAAUUAAGAAACUAGGAAAAUUCAAUACCUUCUAGGUUAUUCAACCCCAAAUAUAAUUCUUUGAGUUGUGUCAGAUUUCCAAUACUUUUUGGAAUGAUUCCCAUCAAUUGAUUAUAGGACAACGACAAAAUUUUAAGGUUGCUGCAUUUUCCCAUGCCAAAUGUAAUGUUACCAGAUAAUUCAUUCCAACUCAAGUAAAGCCCUUCAAGCUUGGGAAGAUGUUGACACAUAUCAUUAGGCAAACUACCUGGUAGGCUAUUGCUGGAGAGAUUAAUAAUCUUCAGAGAAGAAAUAUUGAAGAUGGAAGAUGGAACCUGACCAGAUAAUUGAUUGAAUCCCAAGUUCAAGAUCUCUAGAUUAGACAUGUUAAAAAGUGUUUCAGGGAUUGUGCCUGUAAAGUUAUUAUUUUUCAUUGCCAGCCUUCGAACUCUCUGUAAGUUCCCAAGCCAUGAUGGAAUUUCCCCAUUAAGACGGUUGUAGCUUAAUCGAAGGAUCCUCAAACGAUGCAAUUGGCCCAAUUCUUUAGGGAGAUGGCCAUAGAAAUGGUUGCUACUCAAGUCGAGAGAGAGUAGAAAUGAAAGAUUUCCAAGGUGUGGAGGGAUAGUACCCCUAAGAUUCAUGCUUGUAAGAUUCAAAGCUAUAACUCUUUUAUGGAGGAUGCCACAAGAAACACCAAUCCAAUUGCAAACAGAGGUUGAGGCCGUCCAAUUAUUUGCCAAGACAUUUUGAGGACCGGCAAUGCGAUCCUUAAACUCGAGAAGUGCAAACUGAUCGGAGUUGAGAUUCUUGACUGUCAUAGCCAAGCAAAGUACGAAACACGGUAUGAAUAAAGCUAAAAGAAGAUGAAAGCAAGUGUUGUAGUUCAUGAUUGCAAGACGGAUUAAGGCAAGAAAAUAAAAAAAGUAGGAAAAGGGAGGUUGAGUUGAUAAAAUAGUUUGGAUGAUGAAGAAAAGCCCGGAUAGCAUGCUUUAAUAUGUUUCAACCCUCGUACACUUGAUAAAUUUAAGACUACCCUAAAAAUUAAAAAGGAAAACAAAGUUUUGAAGAGAUUUCAAAAUAAAGGUCAAGUCUUCUUCUUUAAAAAAUACGUCCAAAGAAGUGAAUUUUCAAAAUUUCUCCUAAAUUUUCUUCACAUUACUCCACAUAAUCAAUUAAGAAAACUUAAAAAAUAUAUUUUAUUAAUUGCUAUAUAUUCUUUUAUUUUUAGAAAGCGAAUUUUCAAAAUUUCUCCUAAAUUUUCUGCACAUUACUCCACAUAAUCCAUUAAAAAAACUUAAAAAUAUAUAUUUUAUAAUUACUAUAUAUUCUUUUAUUUUUAGAAUAAUAGUUUAAAAUAUGCUAUUAGUCCCUAUAAUUCAAAAGUUUUUAAAAAAUCCAAUCCUCCUAUUUUUCCAAUUUAAAAAUUCUAGUCCAAUCAUUUUUAAUUCCAUUAAAAAAUUCAACUUAAUAGGUUUUUUAUUAUCAAUCAUAUAUGCAACAUUAUAUGAAGGCAGUCUACUCAGCAUAUAUCCAAGUUUACAGAUUUUAAUAGAAAAUAUACUUACAAUCCUAAUGGUAGGACUAAGUUUUUUAAACUAGAAAAGUAAGAAGAUUUAAUUUUUAACUUUUUAAGUACAAUGAUUAGCUUUUAAAUAAAAAAUGUUAUGUAAAAAUAUUAAAUCUGUUAAAAAAAAUUACUUUUUUAAAUAGUAAAUGUUAAUUUUAUUAAUACAAAUGGGUCUUUAGGGCUAAACUUCAGUAAUUGACGAGCUCUCCCACAAACUACGGAUGAUUUGGGGAUAAAAACUUCAAUAAUUAUACAGUUAUAGUGUAAAUUUGCCACUAUAUUAUAAGUGUAUUGAAAUUUAUCACUAUAUUUUAUUUGAUAUUUAUCAUUACACUUUGAAAAUAUAAGUAAAUUUACCAUUUAACUCAGAUUUAACUUUGCAAGUAAACUUAAAAUUUUAUUUAAUUUUGUCACUAUAUUUGAUUUGUUCAAUAUAGAUUUUGGUGACUUAAAACAAAAUUAUUUCACUAAAAAAUUUUAAUUCACUCGAAAAGUUAGUGCUUUAUUUCAAGGGGUCAUAAUUAAUCAUUGAUUUCGCAAUUUUAAAUUUUGAAUUUGUUGACAAUUGCGUAAUUAAUAAGUACCAAUUUUGAGUGUUGUAGGGCUAGUACAAUUUUCCUUGCACAUAAGCGACUCAUGAACCUACUCUUUUCUCUAGAAUUCAAUGCAGACCUCAAAUUUAUCUUUUGAAAAGAAUUUUAAAAUCUCUGUAUAAAAGGUGAGUUUUUUUUUUGGUGACCGAUCACACUUAACCAAAUUUAAAAAUUAUUAAAAAAUAAUUUCUUUUUGAAAUUUAAAGUGAUCUAAAAACAUAUUUUUAAGUGCUUUGGACCGUCUAUUGUUGAUUUCCUUAUUAUAUUAAGUGUUUGUAAAUCACUCCUAAUAUAUUGUGUUUGAGUUGUGACAAAGCCGAUCAUCAAUGUGCCAUAAUGAUCUAUUGAUACUGAAACUGAAGUUUUUGUUAUAUUGAUAGAGCUUAUUCUUCAACGCGUACAACGUGUUUGUGAUUUUUCUCCCUUCAAAUUGUAUGAUCUUAUUCAUUAAGUGAAUUAAUAAAUUUUCCCUUUAAAAAGAUAUAUUUUUAAAAAUUAAAUACUUUAUAAAAUAUUUAAAAAUUUGUAAGCUUUAAAACAAUCAACACAAUAUAUUUUUCUCUAAAAAAUCAAUAAAAAUAUGUUUGAAAUUUUAUAUGAAAUUUAAAUUUUUUUAACAAUAAUAUAUUUUAAAAUUAUAGUAAUGCAGUAACUCUACAAAAUAUAUAUAUUUACUAAUUAUAUACACCUUUUUUAUAUUUUUUUUCUUAACAUAUCAUUAUUUUCAACACUAUCGUAAUCCUGUUUUGAUAAUUCCCUUUCCAUACAUCCUUUUUCUACAUAGAAUUUCAAAAGAAAAUGUGAAUUAAUGUAGACCUGAGAAGACUUAAUUACAUUUAUUAGUUUAUCAAUCAAAACUUAAUUAGAAUCCAUCAGUAUUUCAUACAUCAAAAACCCAAGCAUAAAAUUCACUUUUAAAUUAUUUGAAGAUAUAUUUGUAUUAUAAGAAAUGGAUUAAAUUAGUCUUUUUAUUAGUAAAUGUAUUAUUUUAACCUUUGUAUUAGUUAUGAAUGAUAUCUCCUAGAUUGAAGCCAGAGCUAUUCUUAAAAGACUAAAGUUAGGAUUCAAAUGUGUUGAGAUGGAAAGUGACAACACAAUGUUGAUUGAAACUAUUUGUAUCGGGUUGGCCAUAAUAAGUAGUGCUACCGAAGUAAGACAGAUUCACAAUUGGUGUUCCAAAAAUUGGAAAGUCAAAUUUCGACAUAUUAAGCGGAAUGCCAAUAAAGUUGUUGAUUGCAUAUCUAAGCCAAAUGGAGGCGUAAUUGAGCAGUUGGUUAUCUUGGAAGAUCCUCCACAUUAUGUGAGAUGCUAGCUUGAAGAAGAUAUUAGACAGUCACUGGUGACUGAUUAUAAUUUUCAUUUGGACUGAUGAGCGCUUAAUUUUUUAAGCUUAUAUUCAACAAAAAAAUUUAAAUACGUCUCAAUUGUAAUAGAGUUAACAUUUAGUGUUUAAAAAAUAUCUUAAAAAUUAUUUUUUCCAAUUGCAGUUCAAUUCCACAAAUAUCAACGAUGAACCCGGACAUAAAAAUUACAAAAAAAAAAAAACACAUCUAUUAUCAAACCAGCAAUCCAUGUCUAAACUUAAAUUAACAAAAUUUGCCACGCAACCUGGUACACUAUUUUAUAUAUAUACUAGAUUAUUCUAGAUGCACAUGUUUUAUUAUAUUUAAAAAUUAAAAUAUAUGGUUGACUAAGUUUUAGUUGAGUUAGUAUUGGUAUUAUUGUCAGUGUAGGAAAAUGUGAGUUUAAUUGUGCUCAAAUGUGUUUUAUACUCCAAUUCAAGGGUUAGGAAAAGGUUAUUGAUAAUUAAAUUAUUCCAACUUUUAUGAUAUUUGUUAAGUAUGACUCCUAUUUUUAGUCAAAUUUGAGAAAUAAUCUUCAAGUUAAACUCUGUUUAUUUGUUUCAGUCAAACACUGAUUAGUUUAGAUAAUUUUAUUAUUAUUUGACAUAUGAAUUUAGCCUAUAAAUAGGCUCUUUUACAACAAUUAGAAAAUACACCCAUUGGAGAUUAGAACUCAUAACACAUUUAGAGAAUUUUGUGUUUACGUUUUGAGGGUUCUUUGUUUUCGGGUUUUCGGGGUUUAGUUUUUAUCUCCAUCUUUUGUACUCUUCGUUCUUUUGCCAUUAUAGUAAAAUUAUCUUUGCCCGUGGUUUUUUAUCCUCUUUGGAGGGGUUUUUCCACGUUAAAUUUGUGUGUUCAAUUUCUCAAUUUAUUCCGCUAUUUUUGUUACUUGUUGCUUAAAUUGAGUCGAUCCUAACAAGUGGUAUCAAGAGCUAGUUCAAUUCAGAUAUGGCAACAACAAGGUUUGAAAUUGAGAAGUUCAAUGGUGAGACAAAUUUCAAUCUAUGGCAAGUUCGGAUGAUGGCAAUUCUAGUUCAAUCUGGUUUGAAAAAGGUUGUUACGGAGAAAAAGCCUGAUAAUCUAAAUAAAAUAGAAUGGGAAGAGCUUGAUGAAAAUGCCCUCUCUGCAAUCCAGUUAUGCCUCGCGAAUACGGUAUUGCAGGAGGUAUUGAUGGAGAAGACCUCAUCCGCCUUGUGGAAAAGGUUAGAAACUCUUUAUGCGACUAAGUCUCUGGCUAACCGUUUAGUGUUGAAACAACGUCUAUUUACGUUUCGCAUGAACGAAGGUGAGCUUCUUAGGGAUCACAUCAGUCAAUUCAUUACUCUUUUAAAUGAUUUAAAGAACGUUGAGGUUCAUAUUGAUGAUGAAGAUCAAGUUAUGCUAUUAUUGUGCUCUUUACCCCCUUCAUACAAGUCUUUCAAGAAGACCCUGAUUUAUGGUAGAGACAAACUCUUGUUCGAAGAUGUGAAGGGUCAUUUGUUGAGUAGAGACAAACUCGACAAUGAGCUUCAUUUGGAUAGCAAGGCAGAUAGGCAAGCUUCCGUUUUGAUAGCAUCAAAGAAACGAGACAAAAGGUGUCGCUAUUGUAAAAAGUUAGGUCACGUCAAAGUAGAUUGUUAUAAACUACAAAAUAAAAAAGCUGCUGAGAGUAAUGAGGAAGAUGUAGCUGGUGCUAAUUAAGCCGAUGAGAGCGGUGAUGAUUUCUUGUUAAUGUCAACGAGUGAUAACUCCAAGCUCACGUCUGAGUGGAUCUUAGAUUUGGGAUGUUCUUUCCACAUGUGUCCCAAUAAAGAAUGGUUCUCCACAUACAGUUCGGUUGAAGGUGGAGUUGUGCGCAUGGGAAACGAUUCAUCUAGUAAGGUAAUUGGUAUUGCAACUGUUAAAAUUAGGAUACACGAUGGGACGAUUAGGACACUCUCAGAUGUCAGGUAUGUACCUGAUUUACGAAAGAAUCUCAUCUCCUUGAGUAUUUUAGACUUGAAAGGAUGCAGAAUCAACAUUGAGUCAAGCGGCAUUAAAGUAUCCCGUGGAGCUCUCGUUUUGUUAAAAGGUAAAAGAACUGGCAGUCUUUAUAUUCUGGAAGGUUCUACAGUGACCGGUGAAAUCGGACGUCCCUCAUCCGUUACAGAGUCGAAGUCAACUCGUUUGGAGCAGAGGCAACAUGGUUAUAGGAGGGAAAAAUAUAUGACCGUUUCGUUGAAAAGAGGUUCUCUUUUGGAUGCAGAUUUUGAAAAGUUAGGGCACUGUGUUCGUGAAAAUCAGACCCGGGUUAGUUUUGAUUUGGCAGUGUAUAAGUCGAAGGCUAGAAGUCUUCCAGUUUCUAAGCACAGAUUCGACUCAGUUAAUUCCCUGCAUAGCUCAAAAUAGGCUCGUGGCGGGCUUUGGCAAAAAUGGCAUUGUAGAAAUAUGAGUCAAGGUGGAGAUUUGUUAAGUAUGACUCCUAUUUUUAGUCAAAUUUCAGAAAUAAUCUUCUAGUUAAACUCUGUUUAUUUGUUUCAGUCAAACAUUGAUUAGUUUAGUUAAUUUUAUUAUUAUUUGACAUAUGAAUUUAGCCUAUAAAUAGGCUCUUUUACAACAUUAGAAAAUACACCCAUUGGAGAUUAGCACUCAUAACACAUUUAGAGAAUUUUGUGUUUACGUUUUGAGGGUUCUUUGUUUUCGGGUUUUUGGGGUUUAGUUUUUAUCUCCAUCUUUUGUACUCUUCGUUCUUUUGCCAUUAUAGUAAAAUUAUCUUUGCCUGUGGUUUUUUAUCCUCUUUAGAGGGGUUUUUCCACGUUAAAUUUGUGUGUUCAAUUUCUCAAUUUAUUCCGCUAUUUUUGUUACUUGUUGCUUAAAUUGAGUCUAUCCUAACAAUAUUAAAAAAAGGAUUUAUAAAGAAUAUAAGGAAAAGAAAAAAAGAGAGAAACAUAUUCAUAUUGAUGGGCUCUUUCAAUAUUAGACUUUUUUUUUCUAUCACAAGUAAAAAUAUCAAAGGUGAUAAUAAUUAAAUUAUAAAAUUUAAAGUGAGAAAAUAGGGGAUUGAAUUUAUAACUUUUAAAGUAUAAAGAAUGAAUUUAUAACUAACAACAUAUUUUAACCACAUAAUAAAAGUAGUUAUGGAGAGGAUCAUGUAAAAUAAUGACCUGAAUAAUUUUAAACGUUUCAUCCUUGCAAAAAUGAAAUAAUAGAAAAGAAAUAAGUGUUAGGUGUAGUGGCAAUGUACAUUAUACUUCUAAGGGGAGAUCAGGGUUUUAGACAAGGAAAGAAUUUUAAACCUGCUUUUUUCUCUAGAACUCAACGCAAACCUCAAAUUUACCUUUUUAAAAGAAUUUUAAUAUAACUAUAUAAAAGGUGAUUUUUUUUACUGAUCACACUUAACAAAAUUUAAAAAAAAAAAUUAAAUUUAAAGUGAUCUAAAAACAUAUUUUUAAGUGCUUUAGACCAUUCUAUGUUGAUUUCUUUAGUAAUUUGAUUUGUUCAAUAUAGAUUUUGGUGACUUAAAACAAAAUUAAUAAAAAAUUAUUCUUUCAGAUAUCUUUUUAAUGUUAAAUAAUAAGUUAAUUUAUAAAAUAUACUUUCAUUGGACACAGGCCUCCAAGGCGGUGAACCACUGAUCAAAUUAAUUUGGAGAUACCUAAAUUUGUUUUCAUCAAUUAAGAAAUUAAAAGAAAUUGUUGAGAUGAUGGAUCAAGUGUAUCUCGCCAGUGAUCAUUAAGGAGAAAAAAGAGUCAAUUAAGUGAAAAUUAUAUUCCAACAUCUCCCCAGAACCAAAUUUCAGAGUGAUGAAUGUCAUGAUCAAAUUGAACAUCUUAGUGGAAGUAACCAAACCUUUUCCAGCGAAACUCAACAUCCUCUUCACAAAGUUGUUGGAAUCAAAAUUGUUGAAGGACUUUAAAGUGUUUCUUUAGAUCAACUCAAGGAGCUUAUUAAAAAAACCAUCAAAGAUCAAGUCAAAAGUGUUACUUCGCCUUCAUAUACAUACUCAAAGUCAUACAUCUGGAGGAUUUAUCAUUUGAAUAUGCCUGAACAUUAUCCACCUUUAAAAUUGCAAUGGUUUGAUGGUAAAGGAAAUCCAUGUAAACAUGUCACUCACUUCGUGGAAACUUGUGAUCGCGUCGAUGUAACACUCCACUCACGACCCAAUCGCUGGAUUUAAGAAGAGAGAUACGAAAAUCAUGUUGGAAAAAAUCUUCGAUAAGUGUAGCAUGAGUGCUCACACUCUCCAAACACUCCAUACUAUCUUUGGUAUCGGAGUUAAGCUUGACACUCCCUUAUCUCUCCAAUGUUAUCUUCAGGCCAUAAUGCCCUAUCACAUAGUAAAAAAGGUGAGCACUCACAAUCCUAUGGCAUGCCAAUGAUAUCUAAUGGUUUCAAGUGUUCACAAUGCCAACAUAUGAUUUUUAUCACAUUCACUUUACACAAUUUAAAACGGCUUAUAAUACAGCAGAUCUCACAUAUCAUAGUUUUUAAUAACAUAAUUCACAUUUCUGUAGGGCUUGUAUUAUACAUAAGUUAGUAAUAACAUGGAUUCCCAUAAUAGUUAUGGCUUGCAUAUAUUUAAGGCUCGUAUGCAACAUUUGGGAUCCCAUAUAUUUAAACUCGCAUAAUACAGGGGCUCGCACGACAUAUUUUGGCUUGCAUGCAAUAUAGGGCUUGAUCACAUAUAUAGGUUUACAUGAUCUUAGGGCUCACAUCACAUAUAUAAGCACGCAUGAUACAUAGGUCCACUCAACAUGUAUAUAUAAACUCGCACAUCAAAGUAUAGGCUCGCAUGCAUUAAGGUGAUAGAGUUUGCAAACAAUUUAGAGCUCGCACACACCAUAGGCUUGCAUACAUACAUGUUAGCAAGGUCUGCAGGUCACAACUCGAGGCUCACAUAACUACAGAGGCUUGCAUGGAAAUAUAAUAGUGUUCAGAUAUCAUUUUAAUCGGCUUCACACAUUAAAUCAAACGGUUUGCAUGCCUUCCUUGGCUUUCAUUAGCAUGUGAACUCGUGUUUUUGACACAGUGUGCAAGGACACUCAUUAGUUGUUUGUUGAUACUGUCGAACCUAUACCACAUUUUGCUUGAAUUUUUCCUUGCUCAUGGAUGCAUCUUCACAUUAAGAAGCUUUGCAUAAAACAAGAAAAUAUACAGAUUACUACUUUCACAGACAUAAUAACCUUCUUAACAAACAUAGUAGCAAAUCUUCCAAUCUUCCUUAAUAAUUCCUUAAAUGAACCUAAACCAAAAUGUAGUAUAAAUUCAAUAAAUUUAUCAUCAAACCAUCCCGCAAACACCCACUUAUAAGUUCAAACUGAUCAUUGAAAUUAUAACUAUUUUAUGAAUCCAAACUAGUUAGAUUCCUUAAACUGUAUUGAUGUGAAUUGUACGUACAACCGUUCUUCACCUUUACGGGUGAUUUGGGGUGUUUAGGUCAGCACCUAAUUCAAUAAUAUACUAAAAAAUAAGUAGUUAAUCAAUGAUUAAAUUCCUUCAUUUUAAUCAAUGAUUAAAAUCAGUAGUCUGAUGUUAAACGUGUGUUGUCAAAAUUUUCAAAAUAUUUUGUUCAAAUUAAUUUUUAAUCGUGAUCCUUGAAUUUUAUUUUUUAAAAGUCAUGCAUUUGCAUUCAGUUUUUAAAUUAAUAUUUUUCAAACUUGUUUUACUUUUCUUUUUUUUUUGAGCUCUAAGUUUUACCCUUUUUUUAGUUUUUUUUUAGUAAACAAAUAAAAAACAAAAAGGUUUGUGAGUUUCUCCCCACACACUGUGCACUUGCAUUCUUGCAUAACAUGAGCUCUCUACUCGGGCUCUGUCUGUUUAAGUGGAAGUAAACGCUACGCCUUCGUGAGUUAACUCAUUCCUCCGUACAGGCUAGUGAAAUACUUCCGGAUUACAUAUGACUUAUGCUUUCGUGAGUUAACUUGUCCCUCCACAUAAGCAUAAGUAAAUGUAGUCCCUCGAAUUGAGCUCGCGAGCCCAUGACAGGCGAUAACCGAGGCUCCGUACUAACCUUAGUAAGUGACAGUAUGGACAAUUUGAGUACCUUUCUAGAACCAAAACCACAUAUAGCGAACUGUACGAGCCACCCAAUUAGAGUCAUGUCGAACCUCUAUCCGUUGAAUAGUCACCAAAAAAAGUACAUGGGAGGAACACCUCUUACCUUGUAUUUCUUUUACAUUCACAUCUUUUGCAAGGGAAUCGAGUCUGUUUAAUAAAUUGGAUCGGUAGAUUAUUUGAUGAGCAUGUGGGGUAAGUUUAUUUUGUAAAGCAUGAGGGGGUAAGGAAAAAAACGUAGGUCAAUUUGUUAGAUUUUCCAUAGUUUUUCUUUGUUUAUAUUUGUCGUGAUUGCUAAUUAAGUUUAUUUGUCUUAAUUUUAUUUUUCAUCAUGCAUCAUAGGUAUCUCAUUAGGAAGGUGUUGAUUAGAGAUUGGUUGCCAAAAACGGGUUUCUGAUGGAGAAGUCAAUUACACAAGUAACUGAGAAAAAAAUGACAUAGUCAGAGACUGGUCUUUGAGGACCCAGAAAGCAAACGAUACAGUUUAAAGGAAAGAUAUAUCUCUGGUCUUUUCGGGAAGGCGACUUUGAAUGCUCGUCAGAAUAACCCGAAGAUUUGACUAGGAUUUGGAAACAAUGAGACUUAGGCACUAGGGGCAUCUUCAUUGGCAAAAUAUUUUGUAAUGGACUCUUUUCAUAAAUUAAACGCCAAAAUAUGGGGCUAUCUUAAAAUCAACACUAUUUUUUUACAUAUUUACGCGUGACUAGCAUCCAUUGAUCAUUCAUCAUUCAUUCAUUCAUUACAUGUACAUAUCACCCGUACCAUUCACUGAGGCUAAAACAGUAUAAUCCACAGUUGCGGCACAAGUCUAGAAUCACGUCAUCCUUACAGGACACGUCUAAGAACUAGAGCUAUGGAUGUUGAACUUAAUGAAAAAAUCAAAAGGAUGGAAAAGAUCUAAAAAAAGUUACAAGAGCAAUUGGUCAAGUCACAAAAAGAGACCAGAUAUAUGAUGGUGAGAUCUCGAGAGGAAUCACUCGAGCAAAGAGAUCAAAUGACCAAAAUAAUGGAGAUGAUUACAGUUUUGGUUAAAGGAAAAGGACCCGUGCAAAGCCCUGACAUCAUGGAACCUCAAUCAAGAGCUAAUAAUGAUUGAGAUCCGCUCUAUCCCCCAGGAUUCACUCCACCUCACGCUCAUGCAAUGCAACUCAAGGGGAACCUAUAGUCCUAGAAUGUCGUCCUGUACCACCUGCUCAUCUAAGGCAAGGUAUAUUCAUAUUGAAUCCCGGAGCUAAUCCUACCGAUCUAAUUGUUCCAGAUCUGGAUGAUCCGGUGAAAUAUCAAAGUUGAAAACUGAUGAUUAUGGCACUCAAAAUAGGUAUAAGAUCCUAGAAGAAAGGCUUAAAGCAAUAAAAGGUACUGAAGUCUUCUCUGCAUUGAGUGCCAAAGAGCUCAGUUUGGUGCCCGAUUUGGUUCUACCCCCUAAAUUCAAGGCACCAGAGUUUGAAAAGUAUGAUGGGAUGAGAUGUCCAAAGGCACAUCUUAUCAUGUUUUUUCAGAAGAUGAUUGGUUACGUGAAUGAUGAUAAAUUGUUGAUACACUGCUUCCAAGUUAGCUUGGUCGGAUCAGCUCUUCGAUGGUACAAUCAGCUCAGUAAAAAAAAGAUCCGAUCAUAAAAAGACUUAGCAUCAGCAUUUUACGAGCAAUAUAAGCAUGUAUCAGAUAUGGUACCUGAUCGACUAACUCUGCAGAUGAUGGAAAAGAAGCUAACGGAGACUUUCAAAUAAUAUGCAGAAAGAUGGAGGGAUAUCUGAGCUCAAGUAGAACCCUCGUUAACUAAAACGGAGAUAACAGUCCUCUUCAUCAACACUCUGAAAGCGCCACAAAGGACUUUGCCGACAUUGUAAUAUCUGGGGAGCUUAUAGAAAAUGCCAUCAAAAGUGGAAGGAUGGAAGGUCCUGAGAGUUCGAAAAGGUAGUACCUAUAAGGAAAAAAGAGACAGAAACCCAUAUGGUCAGAAAUGAGAGCCACCAUACCUCCAGCCCUUACCCAGCCCAACAACGACCUCGUUAUCGCCCACCUUCAAACUUCUAUUUUCCUCCCCAAGGUCCUUACUGUCAAGCACCUCCUCCUUAUCUCGUCUAUGCCAUGAAUAACCAAAGAACGUUCACCAUGUUUCCACCACACACUAUGCCCAUACAAAUUUAACCCAAAAAUGAACAAAAACUAGCGAAACCCAAUCCUAGAAAACCUUAGUUCACCCGAAUUCCCGUGUCAUAUGGAGAAUUGUACCCGAAACUGUUGGAGAAGCAAUUAAUAUCCCUGUAUUACAUGGUACCCCCGAAGCCCCCAUACCUAAAAUGGUAUGAUCCUAAUGCUAGUUGCAUGUAUCACGUUGGAAAUCAGGGGCAUUCUACAGAAAACUGCCUUGCCUUUAAAAGGAGGGUUCAAGAUUUCAUCGAUGUUGGCAUUCUGUGAUUUGAUGGUAUUAGUAAUCCUCUUCCUACCUAUGCUGAUGGGAAUGUGAAUGCGGUAACAAAUGAUGACGAGGGGUAAAACAAUCCAAGAAGCGCUUUGAUUGAAAAGGGUCUUCAGAACAUCAGCAUAAAUGUUGUUGACAAUGAGAAUGAUGCAAUCGAGAUGAUACGCCCUUGUCCUCCAGGAUAUGUUUUGAACAACUGGACUGCUGUGGACCUCCUUGUAGUUUCUAAGUCCUCUCCAGAGUAAUGCCCAAUGAUAAUUCUCUAUUAUUUUGUGUGUCCCUAAGUAAUGGGAUUCCUUUUGUAAGAGCUUAUGUUUGCUCUUUAUCAUUUCAAUGAACAUCAAUGAAGAUGACCCAGAGCCUAGGUAUCGUAUACGCCCCCAAAAUAAAGAGCCUUGAAUACUAGAAGAAAAGCACCUAUACCUAGCAAAAUUAAGUGAAUACCCAAAAUUGUGGUCAUUUUAUUUCUAUCUUUCCAUACAUAACCGAAAAAUGGAAAAGAUUCUUCAUGAGUUUCAAGUGUCAUGGUAUUUUUUAUUUCCAUUAGCUUCAUAAUUAUCCCUUCUCUUCAUAUCAUUUCCCUACAUGUAUUUCAUAUCAUUCCAUAACAUUGUGUGUGUUGAUUCUUAUAUUUUUUAUGCUCCUCUAUAGAUUUCUUUCCCAUUCACUUUUCAGGUGCUCAGAUAUCCAUGGCAUGAACAAUCUCAUUACAAGUCUUGAAAUCGAUUUCGAGAAGGCUGUUUGUUUAAGAGAAUUUGAAGCUGAGGAGGAUGCUAAAGAUUUUGUCUCGUCUCCUGACUUACUGAGAAUGGUAGAACAAGAAGAGAAACAGAUUCUACCCCAUCAAGAAUCUGUUGAGACAGUAAACUUGGGAAGUGAGGAAAAGAAACAAGAAGUAAAGAUUGGGAUUUCCAUUUCAGAUAACACCAAACAGAAUUUGAUCGCCUUGCUCCGUGAAUACAAAGAUGUAUUUGUCUGGUCUUAUCAGGACAUGCCAGGGUUGAAUGAGGAUGUAGUGGUUCAUAGACUCCCAUUGAAACCAGAAUGUAAACCCAUUCAACAGAAGCUAAGACGGAUGAGACCUGAAAUGCUGUUAAAGAUAAAAGAAGAAGUCAAGAAACAAUAUGAUGAGGUUUCUUACAAGUCUCUAAAUAUCCAGAAUGGGUAGCUAACAUAGUCCCAGUAUCGAAGAAAGAUGGCAAGGUACGAAUAUGUGUGGAUUAUCGUGAUCUGAAUCGAACAAGCCCUAAGGAUAAUUUUCCUUUGCCACACAUCGAUACGUUGGUAGAUAACACAUCAAAACAUUCAUUAUUUUCUUUCAUAGAUGGUUUCUUGGGUUAUAAUCAGAUAAAGAUGGCUAUCAAAGAUAUGGAGAAAACUGCAUUCGUGACAAUGUGGGGAAUGUUCUGCUACAAAGUGAUGCCGUUCGGAUUAAAAAAUACUAGGGUAAUGUAUCAGAGAGCCAUGGUGAUGCUGUUCCAUGACAUGAUGUAUAAAGAAAUAGAAGUCUAUGUCGAUGAUAUGAUUGCUAAAUCCCAGGGAGAAGAAGAGCAUAUUGGGAACCUCAAGAAGCUAUUCGAAAGAUUAAGAAAGUUCCAGUUGAAGCUUAACCCAGCCAAGUGUACAUUUAGGGCUACCUCGGGAAAAUUUCUAGGUUUCAUUGUCAGCGAGAGAGGUAUUGAGGUUGAUCCAGACAAGAUAAAGGCUUCUUCCGUGUACAAAAAAAGAAGUCAGAGGAUUUCUAGGAGGGUUGAAUUACAUUGCUCAAUUCAUUUCUCAACUUACCAACCAGUGUGAUCCAAUUUUUUGACUCAUUCGAAAACAUAAUCCAGGAGAGUAGAAUGAGGCAUUAUGGGACGAAGGAAUUUGUGGAACGCAUGCCAAUGGGUUUACUAUAGCUAGGUAGAUUAUGAGACUUGGUUAUUUUUGGCUGACGAUGGAAAGAGAUUGCAUUAGCUACACACGAAAAUGCCACAAGUGUCAAAUUUACGGCGAUAAAAUUCAUGUAGCUCAUUCGCCCCUUCAUGUCAUAACUUCUCCGUGGCCUAAUCUAUGUGGGCCAUUGAUGUUAUAGGGUCAAUUUCCCUGAAGGCUUCCAAUAGACAUCGAUUCAUCUUUGUGGCUAUAGAUUACUUCACAAAAUGGGUAGAAGUCGCUUCUUUUGCUAAUGUGACAAAGACUGCCGUCUGCAGGUUCCUAAAAAAGGAAAUUAUAUGUCGAUAUGGUUUGCCUGAGAGAAUCAUUUCAGAUAAUGCUUUGAACCUGAACAACAAGAUGAUGAAGGAAGUAUGUGAGAAAUUUCAAAUAAAGCAUCAUAAUUCCUCACCUUAUCGCUCAAAAAUGAACAGAGCUGUUGAAGCAGCCAACAUUGGGAAGAUGACUGAGACAUAUAAAGAUUGGCACGAGAAGCUACCAUUUUCUUUGUACGCAUACUGCACCUCUGUACGGACAUCUACUAGAGCAACUCCUUUCUCUCUGGUGUACGGAAUGGAAGCUGUUUUGCCAAUCAAAGUAGAAAUCUCAUCCCUACGUGAAUUGAUGGAGAUGAAGUUAGAAGAAUCAGAGUAGGUUCGAACUCGAUAUGACCAGCUAAACCUUAUUGAAGGGAAACGCUUGAAGGCAAUUUGUCAUGGACAGAUGUACCAAAAGAGAAUGAUCACAGCCCAUGAUAAAAAGGUGCGGCCAAGAGAAUUUCACGAAGGGGAACUCGUACUAAGAAAGAUCCUCCCGAUACAAAAAGACUUUCGAGGAAAAUGGUCACCAAAUUGGGAAAGGCCAUACGUUGUAAAAAAGGCAUUCUCGGGAGGGGCUCUGAUUCUCACUGAGAUGGAUGGGAAAGAAUUACCUAAUCCAAUGAACUUAGAUGCUGUGAAGAAAUAUUAUACCUUAAAAAACAAAAAAAAAAAACAAAAAAUAUAAAAACAAAAAAAAUGAAAAAUCAAGAUGAAAACCCGAAAAGGGCGUCUUGAUAAAUAAAAAUGAUUAGGAUGAAAACCCGAAAGGGCGUCCUAAUGAAGUAGACUCAGACUUAAUGACCAAGAUGACUUGAACGGGGAGUCGAAUGGCGAGGUUACAAUAUUUGAAGCAUUCUCAGAAGCUUGAAAUCUUCUACACAGGAAGCCAUGCUAAAAAAGAUCUUUGACAAAGAAACGUGGAGAAGUUCAUACGUUGGAUAUCUAGAGCGUUCGUGGCCAUUGAAUUCACUUUCCUUUCUUUAUGAUGCUUUCUUUUUUUGAACUAUUCCUUGUCAAUUUUCUUUGCUUGUUUCUUUUAAAAAAAUAUGAAUGUGAGGUAUUUCUUUCAUGCCUACUUUGCCAUUAUUUUUUUAAUGCAUCUCAUGUUUGAUUCAUUUAAAUGAUAAAUGGUAAGAUGACAUACUCUAAACAAAAGGAAUGUUGAACAUUACCUGGAUGAGAAUUUGACAAGCACAAGGGUCCCAAAGCAAGAACAAAGUUCAACAAGGGGACAGGAAGGUGAUAUACGGAAAUGUGGGUUACUCACCAAAUUUGAGGAUGAGUACAAAACUUGGGAGAAAAGUCAAGAAUUGAGAAAAUGAAUACGGACCCUCACGAAAAUAAAAGAGGGGCACGUGACAAACAGCCCAUGGUGCAUGACACGAUCAUAUAAGCAUUUAGGACAAACACGUGUAUAUCAUGAUAACAUAAUACAUGACAUAUACAGGUAUCCCAGCGGAGCAAGGAAUUUUGGAAGAAAACUGCACAGAAUCAAUGAAAAAGACGGCUUUUAAUUUCACCUGGUGAUUUUUUUUCGAAACCCUGAUUCUUUCAAGAAUUAUUUUUCAAUUUCAUUUUUUUUUUCAAAAAUUAACUCAUAAUGCAAGAGGUGAGUUGAGCCUCAGGUAGCACGCCGAGAUAUUUUCAAUUUUUGUUUUUUCAAAAAAAUCAACUCAUAUUGCUAGAUGUAAGUUGAGCCUUGGGCCGCACGCCGAUGUAUUUUAAUUUUUAUUUUUUCAAAAAAUCAACUCAUAUUGCUAGAGGUGAGUUAAGCCUCGGGCCACACGCCGAGGUAUUUUCAAUUUUUGUUUUUUUUUUUAAAUCAACUCAUAACGCAAGAGGUGAGUUGAGCCUCGAGCCGUACGCCGAGAUAUUUUCAAUUUUCGUUUUUUUAAAAAAUCAACUCAUAUUGCUAGAUGUGAGUUGAACCUCGGGCCACACGUCGAGGUAUUUUCAAUUUUUGUUUUUUCAAAAAAUCAACUCAUAUUGCAAGAGGUGAGUUGAGCCUCGGGCCGCACGCCGAGGUAUUUUUAAUUUUUUUAAAAAAAAUCAGCUUAUAUUGCUAGAGGUGAGUUGAGCCUCGGGCCGCACACCGAGGUAUUUCCAAUUUUUUUUUUCAAAAAAUCAACUCAUAUUGCUAGAGGUGAGUUGAGCCUCGGGCCGCAUGCCUAGGUGUUUUCAAUUUUCUUUUUUUCAAAAAAUCAACUCAUAUUGCGAGAGGUGAGCUGAGCUUCGGGUCACACGCCGAGGUAUUUUUCAAUUUAUGUUUUUCAAAAAAUCAACUCAUAUUGUAGAGGUGAGUUGAGCAUCGGGUCACAUGUCGAGGUACAUUUAAGUUUUGUUUUUUUCCAAAAAUCAACUCAUAAUGCGAGAGGUGAGUUGAGCCUCGGGCUACACGGCGAGGCAUUUUCAAUUUCUAUUUUUUCAAAAAAUCAACACAUAAUACGGGAGGUGAGUUGAGCCUCGGGUCAUAUGCCGAGGUACUUUUAAUUUCUAUUUUUUUUCAAAAAUUAACUCAUAAUGCGAGAGGUGAGUUGAGCCUCAGGCUGCACGCCGAGGUAUUUUCAAUUUCUGUUUUUUCAAAAAAUCAACACAUAAUGUGAGAGGUGAGUUGAGCCUCAGGUCACAAGCCGAGGUACUUUUAAUUUCUAUUUUUUCAAAAAUCAACUCAUAAUGUGAGAAGUGAGUUGAGCCUCGGGUCACAUGCCGAGCGAUUUUUUAUUUCUAUUUUUCAACAAAAAAUAUAGAGAAUAAAAUUGGACAAUCGAACAAAAUUCAGUGCUUUUAAAGUUUUAGCUCUAUCCCUGUUUCACAGCGAUGAGCAAAGAAGGGCAGCUAUAAGCACUAAAUUUGUUCGGGUCAGUGUCGUGUUUAAUUUUAAAAAUUUUGGAAAAAUAAAAAAAUUUAAAAUUACAUUUCAACCCCUAAACCUUUUAAAAUUACAUUUUGACCCCUAAACUUUUCAAAAUUACAUUUUGACCCCUAACUUUCCUAAAAUUAUAUUUUGAUCCCUAAACUUUUCUAAAAUUACAUUUUGACCCCAGAAGUUUUACAUUUUUACAAUUUGAUCCUUCUAUCAGAAAAUCCCCAUUAAUCCAGUAGAUUUCGUCCACUUGCCCCACGAUUUUUGGCCGCUGACCUAAGGCAUGGCUUCCCCACCUGGUACCUGCAAAAAAGAAGAAAAAAAUCAAAUAUUUAUAAAUAAAAUAAGAAAAAAGAAAAAAAAUACAUAUACAUAUUGAUGGGUUUUUUCAUGAUUAGACUUUAUUUUUUCCCAGGUAAAAGUAUUUAUGGAGAGGAUCAUGUAAAAUUAUGACCAGAAUCAUUUUAAACGUUUCAUCAUUGCAAAAAUGAAAUAAUAGAAAAGAAUGACUAUAUGAAUUUGCAUUUGUGUUCUUUUUCUCAAUAUUUGCUUUCAAAAAUGUGGGAAAUUUUUAAAUUUUAUGAAAUUUUAAAAUUGCACUUCAGUAAAAAUAAAUUUUAUGAAUAUGGACAAGCCAUUUUAUUUAUAAUUUUCUGUGUUUUUCUUCUUUGCUGACUUUCUUAAUGUCAUUUUCUAUCAUGAAAGAAAAUUAAAGAUUCACUAUGUAUUUCUCAACCACUAUGAAAUUACUUGACAAUGGGUGUAGAAUUUUCUCACCAAUUUUCUAACAUGAGAUUUUUUGAAUGGGACAAAUAUUUCAAUUUUAACACAAACAUAUCUUUAGUUAUUGAGAGCGUUUCCCAUAAUUAGUCACCCCUAUUUGUGAGUGAUCUGGGGAUAAAAGCUUAAACAUUUCUGGAUCACAUUGCAUUUAAGACGGGUGUUUGGAGUUACAUGAUAUUUUAACAUAGACCGAAUUUUCUAUGAAGAGUCAUUGCUUUACUUUGGGUGGAUUCUUCCAAUUAGCGUGGUCGUUGGUACUACUCUCCAACAAUUGUUGUACUGUCAUCCUUAUUCCUACCCCACCUAGCAGAGAAGUUAAUGAUCAAAUUCAUUCGAAGAUGUCCUUUUUUUUUAAAUAUUUUUUAUAUUUUCAUGGAUGUGAGGAGAUACUGAAAAUUAUUAUACUAUGAAAUUUUAAUUCAUUCGAAAAAUAAGUGUUUUAUUUCAAGGGAUUAAUAUUAGCUCUCUCUUUUUCAAAUUUUGAAAUUCUUUUAACAACUACGUAAAUAAUCACUCAACUAUAAGUAAAUUUAUAUUUUAAUCAUUUAAAUUUAAAAUUUUAAUUACAAUAUACAAAUAAUUAUCUAACCAUUCGAUUUAUUCUAUUUUAAUCUAACUUUUCCACAAUUGUACAUCUCUGGGUGGGCACAAAAACUUGUACAUUUCCUGAUGACAUUUAAUUCAAUUACAUUAAUUAGGAUCACAUAAUUUUCUUUCGUGCUUUUCAUUAAUAAACUGUUUCAAAAACAAUACCACGUGGACAAUAAAUUUGCUAUUACACAUUCAAUUUUUAGACGGGUCGUUGAAAUAUUAAUUUCACUUAAGCUAUUAUUGACAGACUUUUCAGUUUUUAGUCUUUUUCCGUAAAUAAAUGUAUUUAUGAGCCGGGUUAAGUAAGAUUAUGACAUGAACAGAUUUGAAAAUUGUACUCAAAUUUAAUUUAAUUUAAUUCAAAAAUAAUAAAUAAUAAAUAUAUUUAUAUUGAAGUUUCUAUAUAUAUUUAUAAUAAAAUAUAUUAAUUUUGGGGUUACACUUCAGUCCUUCACUGACUUUUUCACAAUUGGUUUAAAAGUGUAUCCCACCAAUGCCAAAUUGGUACUUUAUCUCUUUUCUUAUUCAAUUUCUUUUAUAAUCAUAUUUAUUUUAGUAUAUUAACUAAUAAUAAAUCAAUUCAAUUAGUAUUUAAUCAUUUGUAUUACAUAUUUUUAAUAAAAAAGAAUUUUUUUUAUAUUUCUAUUUUCAAGUUUAAACACAUCAUUGUUAGGCUUCCUAAAUCCUUUGAGGAUGAUUUUAAAGUUUCUAAAGAUGAUUUUAAGUAGUCCCAAAAACCACUGGAUUUUUUAGUGACAUCCAAUUUUUCUUUUCCUGCAGUAUUGUUGAAAGUUAAUUUUCAGAACAAAAGUUUGCCUUACCAAAGAUGAUUUACCCUGACAUGUAGCAUGCAAAUAUGAAACAAUAAGAAAUAACUAAAAAAAAUGAUCCUUCAAAAUUAAAAAAGAAAGAAAGAAAGAAAGAGAGUGAGAUAAAUCUAAAAUUGCUUAAUAAGUCAUUUGAUAUUUGAAUUUGAUAUUUUUUAAAUAUUAUUUUCUUGUUUAGUGAGUUAUUUAUAUUUGAUAAAAGUUAUACAUCUUGGUAUCUAAAGUUAACAAUGUUAACAUUUUAGUGUUUAAUGUAGGUUUUAUGGUAGCGAUUUGAUGAAAAUUUCACUGUAAACUAAUAUUAUUAGCAAUUAACUUUCAACAAAUCUAUAACAAUCCCAAAUCCAGCCUAGACGCUAUGGUCAAACCUGGAAGGUUACAUCAGUACGUAGAAAAUUUUGUUCUUCCAAAUGUGUUUUGUUACUAAAUUAAGUCAUCCCAGGUUGCCCAAAAACGAUGACUCGCCACCAUGAGAUGCCCGACAACGAUGGCUUAUCAAUACGCAAUUAAACUGUUAGAUCAGAUAUUUGUGGUCAUGCCAUUGAAUUGCAACUCAGCUACCGAAACAAAAAUAUGUGGUGAAACCACUAUAUUGUAUCCAAGCUGCCAAAUAAAAAUAUGUGGAUAAACCAACAGAUAGUGCAGACCAUUAAACUGCCAAAAAUUCCUCCCUUUCAUAUUAUCCCAACCCCAUGCAAUGUGACAUGGCAUGCAUUUACAUAAUCAAAACGACAAGCAUGUAAGACAUGUAGUCGUACCAUAACAGAACUUAGAAAGCAUGGCAUUCUCACAAAUUCAACAAAAGCAAGUUGGUAUGCUAUAAAGUCACAUGCAUGAUCACAUAGCAGAAUCAGAAACAUAAAAAUAACGUAACCAAACCUCAUACCCAUAUACAAACAUAACAAUACAAAUCACGCUACCAGAUUCAUUAGAAAACAGUUCAUGCACACGAAUUUCACAUACCUUAUUCAUAUCACCUACAAUGUCAAAUUAUCAGACGUUACAUUUUCAAAGUCAGUUUUACACAGUACGAACCCUACAAAAUGGCUAAACAUGACUCACGAAUCAAAACGGGCCUAAACGAAAAUUUUUAGAAAAUGGGCCAACAUGGCCCAAUUAACCUAGGCCGUAUGGCGUCGACAGUCCAAUUUUCGACUUUCAGCAGUUCAUUAUUUUUUGAGUUUUUCGAUAUACAGCUUACUAUUUUCCGAAGCAAAAUCAUGGCAAGAAUUCCAAAACCUAAAAUCCAUAUUCAACCCACUCAAAUUAGUAAUGAAACCCAAAACUAAAUCGUUAAACAACCAAAACUGCUACCAAUAAACCUUAUCAAACCAGGAAUCAACCUUUUGGCAUCUGACUACUAACCCAGAAUAGUAGCAGCAGUACUAAAAAUCUCUCAAUUCACCGGAAGACUAUUUGUUACAGAAACGUCACCUAAACCAAAGAUUUCAGAGUAAUCAAAAUCGCGUCACACAAAGAAGGAAACAAAUUAACCCCAAAAUCGUGAAACUCAACAAAGUACGAAUCUUUUCACAUAUUCCUUACCACCAACCGUCAAGAUUGCUCAAAAACCACUAAUGACACCGACCUUCGCAAGGUUAAAUUGAAACCAAAAGGCAACUAAAGAUGGAACAAAGGUUGUUAUAAAAAAAAUAUUAACAAAGACUUAUUGGAGCAAAAAUGGCGAAAAAUCAAGAAUAGGGAGAUUGGAAAAAAAAACAAUGAAACGGCAAAGAGAAGGAGUGGGAAAGUGACGACAGUUUGUGGAGGGAUUUUGGGUAAAUAAAAAGUAACUCACCACUCAACCCAUUAAAUCUGAUUACCCUCUAAACAGAUUCCCUUAGAGUUUAAAUUCAACUCAAAUACCACUACAUGGGCGGCAUAGUGUAAGGAAAUAAAAAUACUUCUACUUUGCACACACGGGGUCUUGAACACGAAACCUUAGGGUAAUUUGAAGCCUUACAACUAAAUUAGUAGGCUCAUCUUUGAAAUUAAUUGAAUGAAAAUAUUAUUUAUGUCAGAUGAUCAGGGAUAGAGGUUAAGACCAAAGAUGACAAAAAUUCAAAGGAAAGAUUUAAACCUAGAACCUCACACACACAAGCAUAACACCUAUCCACUGAACCAGAUUUACUCCAUUGACAUAAUUUUCACAAUGUUAGGUACUACACUAUUACAAGAAUAGAUUUUAGAGAGAAAGAAUUUUUUCUGAGAAAUUGCUUAGUAUUAUUAUCUACUUUAAUCAAUACACUAUCAAUGUUUAUAUACUUCAAUAUGAGUAACUUCUCCUAACCAACUAUACCAGACUAAUCAACUGAAUGAUAACAAACUAACAAAUCUUAUGUUAACAAUCUCUAUUCUUCUAACAUUGUCUAUUUAUGCUUUUGAAAUGCUGACUUGUACUACUAUUUCCAACCCUCUUUUCCUUUAUUUUUUUCAAGCCUUAUACUACCCCUAAUCAGCCCUUAAAUUUCCCUCCUUGUGCCGCCCAAAGCAGCCCUCGUGUGUGCCAUUUUAAACACUACAUUGGGGUUACUGUUUUUCUCUCUUUAGCCGUAUCUUUCUAGAAAAAAAAAAUUGUUGUUCCACUCCUCUAAUCAAUAUUUAAUUGUGUCGUUUUCAGGUGUAUUCGAUUCCCUUCGUUCAAUGAUUUCGAAAUAGUUAACGGGUAGUGUAAGUGUGGAAGCUAGUGAGAUUUAGUGUCAUAUUAAUUUCGUUUAAAUAUGCUGAUUUGGCAGAUUAUUCUAAGGAGUUAUUGAUUGUUUUAGCUACUAAUUUUUUAUAUAAAAUUAUCGUAGGGGCUGAUUGUAACAUCCUGAUUCAACAGUAAGCCGAAACUUAUUCGCACUCUCGCUUGGCAUUAUUUCAGUAUCAACGUGAUUAAUUGUCCUUAAUUGCUCAUUUUUUAAAUUAUCAGAGAUAAUUUACUCCAUUUUUUUUAGAGGAACCAAUUUACCUAUAUCAAGAUUGAGAGGCACGUAGAAGUGUUUUUACUAAUAAAAUCGAAAUAUAAAAGUAUACAUUUCGAUAACACAAACACUUGCAUACUUAACCCUAUUUUCAUAAAACAUGGACAAAAAUCAUAUACCCAUAAAUAAUUUAAAGCAUUCAAGGUUGAUCUUUUAGGAAUUAAGACUAAAUUAACAAUAUAUAUAUUAAUUAUCUCUACAUUAUAUAUAUUUUAAAUAAUAUGUUAAAAUUUAUCAAUUUCAGUAAAUUUUAUAAUUUUUUUGAAUGUUUUAUAAUAUUUUUGAAAAUUUGAUAAAUUUUUAUUUAUAUAUUUUAAAAUUUUUAUUUAUUAUUUUUCUUUUAGAAUUAAAGUCAAAUUUACACCAUGUAUAAAUGUUGAAGGUUGAAUUUAAAAAAACAAAUAGAACUAAAUAAACAAAAUGGGUGAAUGUUGAAGACCAAAUUUGUUAUUAUUCCAAUAUUUCAUUUGGUGAUCAAAGGUAUUUUAAUAGUAGGAUGACUAUAAACUGCAAUUGAUCUAAUGGGAGUGACUAAUAUAAUAAUAAUUUUUUUUGUGACCAAUACAAAAAUACCUUAAAAUUUGGGUGACUAUAAGGAAAGUUUACCCAAAAUAAAACAUUGUAAGCUUUUACAAAUUCGGACGUCUUCUACAGGCGUGAUUGUUCCCUGACUUACAGGUCGGGAGUUGUCGAGCGAUUGAAGUUUUUCAACUACGAGACCACCUUAAGCAAAUAUGUCAAUAAAUAAAUAAUCUAACCCCAUCCAAUCAGAGACUUCAAACUCUUACUCCCCAUCUCUUAUUACAUCUCUUGCGUUCCUCCUGUAUAUGUUUUUUUUUUCUUUUUUAUUGCAGAAAUCUAGUUGAAUUCAGGAAUUGUUACUUUGUUUUGGCCCUUCAAAUCAAGGUUCUACAUCUGGGUAAACAUGGAGGGUUGUUCAUCAAAUGGAUCUACUUCAUUUUUUGGCUCAAACAUACCCAACGAGCUUCAACUUCCACACCAAACUGAUUCUUCGGCCGGAGUAGAUGAAAUGCUUCGCAGACAAGAUUCUGUGUUAGUACAGGACGAUCUCUACUUCUCUGCUGGAGACGAUGGACCAACGGAUCAGUCUCUGCCAGACCAAGACCAUCAAUUCAAUCAAGAAGAAACACCCGAAGCUUCAUAUCAAACGGUAUCAGAAGGUGGGACUCGAUCUAAACUCACUCCAGCUCAAAGAAAAGAAAACAAAAGACAAAGUGAUUACAAGUAUAGGCAAAAGCGCAAGGUAUAAGAUAAUCCAAUUAUUUUUCUCUCUCUAGAAUAUUGCCUCUAAUGGAAUUAGUUAUAAUCAAAAUGUUUACUUUAAAUGCCCUUUUUAACCCAUCAUAUUGAUAUGAUUGUAUUUUACCUAGAAUGGUCAAGUGGUGACCAAAUUAUGUAAAUUGAUUUCUUAGAUUUGUCUUGUUUGAUAUUAACAUUCUGCGGUGUAGGUAAAAGCAGAUGAACAGAAUGGGGAGAUUAAACGCUUGAAAGAGGAAAUUCAACGGCUCAACGUUGAGAAUGGACAGUUGACAGCACAACUUGGAUUGCCACUCUCUAUUGCGCAAUUCCAAGCAGCAGCUCAACAGAGACAGGAUGGUUACAUUACCCAGUCAACCGGCAAGCAGCUUCACCCUCAAACUCUUACUGUCCAUGGAACAAACUCUGAAGCUGUUGACAAGGUAUGGCAUAUUAAUUGUUCUUCAUGUUUGAAAAAUCUAAUGCUUGAACUGGAAUUUAUGUUUGGAUUUCGAUACCUUGGGUUAAACCAUAUUAAGUUUCUCAUAAAGAUUCAAAUUCUGGAAUCCUGAUUUGUUUUCCCUCACAAUUCAUUGUCUCGGCUCUGCAAUUUGGAGAUGAAUGAGAUACAAAAUAUACAGGGAACAGUUUCUGUAAUUGUAGUUGAUGGUAAUGACGGUAUAGCAAAAAAUCAGACGAGUUCUGAAGUUGAAACAUGCAUUAAUAAUGAAGCAGCCAUAACUGACAUUCUUAUGAAACUUGAAGCUGAUGACGAGAGCAGAGUGAAGUUCUCUGACUUCACUGGCUUACAUGGUGAGUGCAUACCAGUAGGAAAAUAUAGUUUCCCACCAGCCCUACAUCCGAUUGUGAACAGCAUUAUCGAAGUCUACGGUGAUGUUUCAGCAACAAGUAAGAUGAGCCCAAGUAUUGCCGAGACCGUUUAUAUCGUGUUCUGUGCUUCUGUCAAAGAGAUGAGCAAUCUACGGCUGGAGCACGUCACAGAGGAUCUGAUAUUGAAGUGGAGGGAUGCAAUCAAAGAUGCUUUACGCAUCAAUUUCAAGGUGGAUUUCGCCAUGGAACAUUUGAAGAAAAUUGCUUGUGCAUACAUCGGUUUAAUGGAACGUCAAAAGCUGGAUAGUGCGGGUUUGAGGAUAUCCAAGUUAGAGGCUGAGUUGAGUACUGCGAAAGAGGAGCAUGCAAAGAUAUGCGAGCAGUCCAAGGUGUUUAUAGAUGCUGCAGAAGAGUUCAACGAUAAGCCUGUCAGCUCUGGUAUGUUCAAAAGACCUGGCCAGAUCAACGUUGAGCUAGAGCUAACAAAUGAACCGGAUUCGAGUACCCUAAUACUUUGAUUUGAGUAGCUAUCAAGUCCAAUCGAGUUUUUCUUGUUAAUAUAUAUUUUUUUCAUUUUUGUUUGAAACUAAAAUUUGAGUUUAAAUAAUUGAAUGAGAAUUAUGCUCAUUUUAAUAAGGUAAAUUGACCUCAAACAUUUAAAGUGAAAGUUGAUAGAGCUAGACCGAGCUUGACCAAGCUUCUAAACUCUUCUACAGCAUCCAUAAACACCUUCGACAGUUCACACAUAUUUAGUAUGCUCUUCUUUCCCAGGAUUCCACUCAGACUCAAUUGGAUAUCCUCAAAGCCAUAUUAUCCAGCUUUCGACAAUCCAUUAAACCGAUGUAAGCGCAAGCAAUUUUCUUCAAAUGUUGUAUGGUGAAAUCCACCUUGAAAUUGAUGCCUACAUCAUCCUUUGUUGCAUCCCUCCACUUCAAUAUCCGACACUCAGUGAAGCAUAGAACGUGAUAUAGAUCGCCUCGAAAAUGCUUGGGCUCAUCUUACUUGUUGCUGAAACACCUCCAUAGAAAUCAAUGAUGUCGUUUACAUUGGAUGUAGAGACGGUGGGAAACUACCGUCAACUACCACAUCGGCCUUUUAUAGUAGAAAAUUUGUGAAUAAAAACAGAGGAAGAAAUUCAUAUGUUACGAAGAAUCAGAUUUUGGUUUUGCGAUAAUCGUUCGAAAACUUGCGAUAACACCCAAGUUGUACGUUUUGUAUCUUUUGGUUGUUUUGUGUUUUUCUUGUUCACAUUGUAAAAGUCAACAAUCCCGUGAGAAGAAGUUGCACGGAAAAGUGCAACCGCUUCUUUAGUUACAAUAACCAUAAAUAUAAAUAAAUGGGUAAAUUUUAUUAUGCUUCUUUAGUAUCUUAUAGAGGUGGUAAGGGGCUGGCUAGGUUCGGGUCAGGUCAAGUAAAAAUUUAUAUUCGUUUGUUAGGUCUAGGUCUGACAUGAAAAUGAGUUUAAAAAUUUGUCCAAAUUCAGCUCGGAUAAAAAUGUUAAAACUUGAACCCAAUCUUGCCCACCCAUAUUAAUUUUUUAUAUUAUUUUAUUUUUACAUAAAUUUUAAAUAUAUAUAAUAUAUCAAAAAUAUUAAAAAUAUUAAAAUAAAUAUUUCCAAACAAAUUGAAAAUAAAUUUUAAAAAAUAUAUAUACUUAAAUAAUACUAAGAUAGAUGCAACUUAACAAGAAAAUUCUUUAAAAUAAUAACAAAAUUAAUAAUAAAACAAGUGUUAUAAAUAUCCAAACAAUAACAACAAAAUAGUAGUAAUAUAAUAGUGAAAUGGUAACAAAAUAUGGAGAAAACAAAAAAAUAUCAUUAAAAUAACAAAAAGAAAAGAUUUUUUUGGCAUUUAGUGAAUUCGGGCCAGGCUCGGGCAAAAAAUGUCUUUACCCAAGGCCUGGCCCAUUUUUAAAAUGGACCUUAUUUUUUUUGUCCAAGCCCAUUUUUCGAGCCUAUAUUUUUGUCCAAACCCUUUCAUUUUUCAGGCAGGCCUUCGGGCUGGGAGACCCAGCCCAUGAGCAAGUCUAAUAUCUUAGGGCUUUUUUUUGUCAGUUUCAAAAUAGUCACCCAACUGGUUUGUUUUCUUUUAUCUAUUUCUGUUACAUAUUUAACAGAAAGGUGAGAUGACGGUUCAAAUAUUAAUAUAAUAACAAAUUUAGUGUACAAUAUUACAUAUUAUGUCAAUUUAGUCAUAAAUUAAAAUAAUUAACUCUUAACGUUUACAUAUUAUGUUAAUUUGAUCCUAAUUCUAAAAAGUUAAAAAAGAAAUUAUAAAUAUACAUAAAUAUUUAAAAUAUAUAAUAAAUUUAAAAAUAUAUAAAUAAUAAAGUCAAGAUCAAGAAAAAAAAACUUGGAGAAGAAGUAUGAACAAAGUCGAAUUCCAAGUUUUUAUAGAUUUCUUCAUCAAGUUCUCUUUUGUAGAUUUUAAAAUAAAGAGCAAAUCUUAUAAAAAUAUGAUAUUUGACUUUAUUCAUACUUUCUCUCCAAGUUUGCUUUUUUAGAUCUUGAUUUUAUUUGAUAUAUAUUUUUAAAUUUAUUAUAAUUUUUGAAAAUACAUAUGUGUGAUUAGAGUUAUGAUCAAAUUGAAAUAAUUUAUAAUGUUGAGGGUUGUUUUUUAAAAGUUGUGAUCAAAUUGGCAUAAAAUGAAAAAAUUUCAAGGUUAAUUUUAUUAUUAUAUUACCUUUUGAACUGUCAUCUCACCCUUCUAUCAAACACUUAAAUAAAAAAAAUAAAAAACUUGAUUAGUUGGGUCACCCUCAUAUCACCCUUCUAUCAAUUUUGGAAAAUUAGAGUAAAUUAAUUUUAGGAAAAUGAUUUCAAUGAUUUUCUAAAAUAUUGGUAUUUUCCAAUAUUUGGAUUAUUCAACCUAAAAUAUAUUUAGCUGUUUGGUAAAUUUUGUCAGAAUAGUGAAACAAAUACAAUAAUAAUAAUGCAUUUAAUUAACAUAUUUUUAUUAAUUAUUUUAAUUAAUUUGGAUAUAUAUUUUAAUUAAUUUCACACUUAGUUAAUUAUUUUCUUUGUCGAUACAGUUAUUAUCUAAUGUGUCAAUAAACAAGUGGAUAUGUGAUUUGCACAAUAAAUUUGACACAAGAAUUCGAAUUGACGCGCGAAACAAAUACUUUAAAAUUAUUUUAUUAUUAUCUCUUUUUAUUUUAGGAUUUUAUAUAAUGUAUAAUUACCGGGCAGCACAUGACAACCAACCCUUAUACUUACUAGCAGGGUCGGAGUCAAACAGGUUGAUAAAGUUCCCAUCCUCCUAAAAUUAAUAUAUGAUAAAAUUAUAUUUUAACUCUUAAAAAAAACUUUUUAAAAAUUAUAAAAAUAUAAAAUAUCAAAAUAUAAAAUUUUUAUUUAUAUCAUUAUAAAACCAUAUAAUUUAAUUCCAAUCUCCUUUAAAAAAAUUUUGACUUCGCACCUUCUUGUUAAGUUUUAUCUUAUUAUGAGUAUUAAAUAUAUAGUUAUAGUAAGCAGGGGAGGCAGGAGCACAACAACCCUUCCUUUAUAUUCACAUUCACUUGCGCAUGAACUAGAAACCACUGUUGCGCUAUUUUUAUUUCAUUUAAUUUGAAUACAAUUCAUCCCUUUCUUUUAUUAUCGUUCUUCAAUUUUUUGAUUUAGUUUUUAUUAAAUCUAUUCUUGAGUUGGGUCAAAUCAUGUUUGAGUCGAGUCAGGAUAAGAUUUUAAAUUCGACUAAUAAGACUAACCCGACACAAUCCAAAAAAUAGAUUUAGAUUUUCUUUCUCAAACUUGGCCCAAAAUAAAGUUAUUAAGCUUAGGCCUAACCCAUAUUAUUUUUUAAAAAUAUUUUAUUAUAUGAAACAAAUUUUAAAAUAUAUAAUAUAUCAAAUUUGAAUUUUUUUUUUCACCGGGACAUUUUCAACAAAUAUUAAACAUCAUUCUAAUAAAAAUAAAGGAUAAGCAUUUAAAAAAAAAAAGAAGAAAAGAAGAAAAGUAAAAAAACAUAUUAAUAUAAGAGCACAAGACAAAGAAGCAAAAUUGUCAGGUAAAUUAGACCUUUCAUUUCAUCAUAUAAAUGCAGCCUGGCAUAGACAAAAAUUCAUACUCAGAAACCAGAACCAACUUGAAAUCGCACAUGCAUGUAAGCAUAUUGGAUAUAAAGUUUGGUGUAAUAUCCUAAUUUUCCUCGGCCCAACACAAAUAAAUAAACUUAAAUAAAUAAAAAAAUUCAAAACAAAAAUAAACAAAAAUUCUAUUAGCAGUCCAAGUUACAAUCCCAAUAAUAAAGUCAAUUUACAAAACCCUAACCUAAUACCCAAUAAUCCAAAGCCCACAACUUAAAUUUUUUCAAAAAAUAAAAAAAAACCCUAGAUUUGUUGAAAGGCCGCGUCGGAGGAAGACCAAAAAUCGAAAGGUCCCUUUGGUAUUUUCGAAUCUUGACCAGAUUUUUAGGGAUUUCAACCCUAGAUCUUGGUUCUCUGUGAGACGGAGAUGAAAAAGGUUUUUUUGACAACUUCGGCCAUCGGAGGCGAUGGUCACUGUCACCGUUGUCGAUGGCCAGUGGCCACAGCGGGGCGACGAUAGCCUUAUGGCCGGACCCAGGGAGUUGUUUCUGUAACAGCCCAUUUUCAGUUAAAUCGGAACAGUGGUAACGUGACCAAAAAUUUGAAUUCAAAAAAAUUUAUUAUUAUUAUAUGGUCUACAGUAUGAUAGAAAUACUGUGUAAAAAUUUCAUUAAGAAAUUUUACCAUUUACAUACCUAAUUUAAUGUAAAGGACUAAAUUGCAUUAAGGGCAAAAGCUGAGUUCUAAUAGCUAAAGGUAUUAAAUAGCUAUAGAAUUUGAAAUUAGAGGUCCUUAUAUAGUAAACAGACCAUUAAAGUGCUUAGUGGUUAAGCAUGAGUAGUCAUCACUGGAAAUUGAAUAAAUUAUUAAGGGUAAUUUUAGAAAUUAUCAAUUAAAGUUAUAAUAAAUAAAAUAAAAUAAUCUAUUAUUAUCAUCUACCACCAAAAAAAACAGAAGAAGAGAAAACCUAACCAUAGAAGCUUGAGAUAUUAGCAAGCUUAUUUUGCUCAAUUAGGUAUGUAUUGUUGUCUCGUUUUUAAUGAUUUAUAUGUUUUCGAUAUCGUAGUAGCUUAAUUUAGCUAGCUCAGGAUUAAUUUGCAAGAUUGUUAAAGUAUUAUGAUAGAAAAUGAAAGGUUGUUGUUAGAUAAAUAACUUUUGUAAAGAGAAUUUUGAUGAAAUUAUCAAUGAGGGAUUAAAUUGAAAAAGAUGAUAAAUUUAUGGUUAAAUUGUGAAAUUGUGAAUUAUGUGGGCUGUUAUUAAUAUGUAAAAAAAUUGACUAGGCUUGAGUAAGGAUUAAAUUGCAUAAAAGUCAAUUUUCGAGCCUAGGGACUAAUUUGCAAUAAAUUAAAAGUAUAGGGGCAAAAUAGUAAUUUCCCAAAAAUAUGUGUUGGACUAAAUUGAAUAUGAAUUAUAUUGAAUUGAGUUAAACUCAUUUGUAUAGAUCCGGUUAGACCUAGUACGGAGUUAGAUCGAGGCAAAGGAAAAAUAUCAGAUUAGUCACCUUCGUAUCUACUUACAUUUAUCGAGGUAAGUUCGUAUAAUUAAAUUGAGUAUGUAUAUGUAUUAAUUGAAUUAUAUGUAUGUGAAUUGUAUAAUUACCAUGUAUAAAUACCGAUCACAUAUCCGAUGAUUAUCGAGUCCCGUUUGAACCGUAUGAAAUUCGUAGGAUAGAAAUGACAUGUCAUUAGGGUUACCGAUUUGGUUGGGGUCCUGCAUGUGUUGCAGACACACCAAAGCUCUUAUGAGCUUUGUGAUACCCAGCAUGCAUGAGCUUCCCAUUAUUCAACUCCCAUGAGCUUCCUAUUAUUCAACUCGGAGGAGCUUCCCAUUUACUGCUCUUAUGAGCAUACAUGUACAUGAAUUGACAGAUUACAGUUUAGUACACUUUGUGUGUACUACUCGUGUAUCCAACGAUAUUUUAAAUGGUUCAAUGGGCAUAGUUCUGUUACGAGAUUUUAUGAGUUUGAUAUGAACUAUUAUUGGUAUUAAUAUAAAAAACAUGAAAUGUGAUUAUUUGAUGAAUUCAACCAUGUGUGUUGGACCUUAUAAGUGAUUUUCAUGGCUAAUAUGUUGGUGAUCAUGUAUUUAGGCUUUUGGCCAAAUUGAUUGAGAUAUGCUAUGUUUACUUACCAUAUUUUAUGGAAAUAUGGUAAGUUAAAUUUUGUAUUAUAUGAACUUACCAAGCUUAAAUGCUUACUCUGUGUUAUUUUUCAUGUUUUAUAGUAAUUCAGCGUACGAGUUAGAAGCUGGUCAGAGCUAUUUCACACUAUCCAUCAGUCCUUUUAGUAUUUUCAGUAAAUUAAUUUUGGUUAUAAUGACAUGUAUAGGUUAUUUUGACCAAUGUUGGCAUAUAAAUGUUUUAUGGAAACUAGUUACUUGAAUGACUUGUGUUUGGUAUAUUUUGAUGCAUAUAUAUAUAUAUAUAAGUGACUUUAUCAUGUUUGAUGUGUGAGUGAUAUGGUAGAAUGAAAGAAAGUAAAAUGUGGUUUGAAUAUGCAUACAUGAAUUUGGUCAUUUAGGUAAAUUGAGAUACUUGUUGAAAUGUCUUUAAGUUUUCAAUUGAGGUGCCUAAGGGCAUAUUAGUUGUAUGUGGUAAUAUUUCAUGUUUAAGAAUUGAUUUUGGAUUAUGUUGAAUGCCUUGUUAUGGCUUGUUGAUAUGUAAAGUGUUGUGUUUAGGUUGAUGUCAAUUUGGGUGAGAAAUGUGGCUUGGAAAAUGACCUAUUUUCGUCCACACGGGUAGAGACACGAGCAUGUGUCUCAACUGUUUGUCCCCUGUAUCUUUUAAUUGAGCAAGUUAGUAUUCUCACACGGCCUAGCACACGGGCGUGUGGCUUGGCUGUGUGACCCAAGUCAGACAGUUACACGGGUACGGACACGGGCUGGACACGGCCGUGUAUCCCUAUUUCGAAUGCCUACAUGGCUUGAGACACGGGCGUGUCUCCUGAUUGUGUGAGUCAUAAGGCCGUGUGUCCCCUACAACUUUAAAAAUUUUUAAUGUUUUCGAAAAAUUCUUUGAGUAUCUGAUCUAGUCCCGACUUGUUAUUAACGUGUAUUUUGGGCCCCAAGGGCUCGUAUAAGGGACAAUAUGUAUGAUUUCGAUUGAUUUUUGACAUGAAUGUUAUACGAUAUGAAAUAUCUACUUAUUUGAUCUGUAAACUUUGGUAAUGCUCGGUAACCCUGUUCUGACGAUGAAUACAUGUUAGGGGUGUUACAUUUAUAGAGAAAAAAAACCGAAAGAAGAGGUUUUUUUUAAAACACAGGAGAAGUGAUAUUUUUUCAACAAAUUUUGGCUUAUGGGGGCCUUGGUGUGACUUCGUUUUGGAUUGGCAUUAGAAGCUCCAAAACGGCAUCGUUUUGAAGCCUGACUGCUGACCCGAUCUAGAUCCCCUAGGAGCCGCAUGUUUUCGUGACAAAGUUCUAAUUGCUGACCUAGUCCUUCCGCUUUUUAAACGUUUUUCAACACAGUCCUAUUUCUGGUCUUUUUUCUUUUUCUUUUUAAAUUAUACCACUCAAUUUUGGAUUUUUUUUAUUUUGGUCCUUUGGACCUUGGUCUCUCCGGAAAAUGGUGUGUGUAAUGAGGUUGGGAAUAAUUUCCCAUUUGGUCACUGUUCCUUUUCGCGUUUUACAUUUAGUCCUUUAUUUUGCUUUAUUUAUUCAUUUGUUUAUUUGAUAUAAUUCAUUAUUUAAAUUUCAUCUAAAUUUCAAUUUAAUCAAUCAUUUAUUUAACUUCACACUUUUAAUUACUAUUUUUUUUAAAUUUUGGCACUUAAAAUUUAUGUUGUUUGGAUCUUUUUUUAAUUUUUUAUUUAUAUAUUUUUUGGUGGUUAUUACAUAUUUUUAUUUAUUUAUUUAUUUUGGUAUUAUGAUAAUGAUAUGACUAUUGCUAUUAGUAUUAUGAAUUAAUAUCUUAUUUAUUAUUAUGGUUGCAUUAUUAUUAUGGUAUUUAUUUAUUUAUUAUUUAUCCUUUUAAUAUAGAUGUUUUACCCACAUGAUUGUUUUAUGUUAUUUAGCUAUCACUAUAUCAUGUGUCAUGUUAAAUAUAUUUGUCCAUUUUCAUACUAUGCGCAAAUAAAUUAACUGCACAUCACUUUAAAUGUUAUUUUCGUUUUUACUCGAUGCAUAAAAAAGGAAACUUAAAAAAAAUGAGGCAAUGUUCAUUGUUUAGGGAUUCAAGAAAUAGUGCCCUAACUUACGGGGUACGACUUUCUCCUUGAACCAAGAUAAAUGAGCAUCCUUUUUAAAUUCAAGACAUAUAAGAUUUGAGUAAUGAUCAAAUGGUGAUUAUUCUUGUUUUCGAAGAUUUGAAGCAUCGUGUUCUAACUUACGGGGCAUGAUAUUUUCUUCUCGAUUAAUUUGAAAUAAGACCUUUUUUGUGAAAAUUAAUUUAGUUAAUCGAUAUUUUAAUUAAAAAAAACAUCAUGCAAAGAUAAAUUCUAUUUUAAAUUUUCUUUUAAAUUUUAAAUUUUCGACAUCAAAACAUCAAGUAACCAACUAGGUACCAAUUUUGAGGGUUAUGAGGGUGCUAAUCCUUCCUCAUACGUAAUCGACUCCCGAAACCAUAUUCUUGGAUUUUGUAGGCUAAAAAUUAUCGUUUUAGUAAAAUCUAAUCUUUUAUUAAGAUGAUUAAAUUUUGAGGUGACCCGAUUACAACUAAUAAAAAGGAUAGGUGGCAACUCCAUUUUCGUUUUUAAAAUAAAAAUUGAUUUAAAAAAGGUUUCAAGUAACGUUAAAUUAGCCGCUGCAAACUGCUACUAAAACUACAAAAAAGAAAAAUAAAAAGAACACUCAUAAUUUCUAAAAAACACUCAGCAAAUCUUUAAAUUAAUUAGCAACUACCAUUUAAACCAUCUACCACUUAAUCAAGCAGAUCAACCACUAACCAAACAAACUGUAAUUUAUAAAGUCCAAUCUAACAACCAAAACUUUAAAUCCGGUUUUCUUUUAUUAUAAUUUCUGACAAAUCACUCAACAAAUCCGUAAAUUAAUUACCGUUACUCAUCUGCUUAAAUGUCAAUCUAAAGCUACAAUUAGUAUCAAAGACGAAGAGAAAAAUCAAAGAAAAUACAAAAAAGAAGUAUAGAAUAAAAGAAAAUAUAACCUAAAAAUAGUCGCUGAUGAAAUGAAGAAGCACUUGGACUUCGAUCAGUCCAAUAAAAGAGUGGAGCCAGCGAAUGAUGCGAAGAUUAUGAAAACUUGAAGGGUGCCUAGCGUAUGAUGAAAGUGAAAGUGAAAGUGAAAGUGAAAGUGAGAAAUUAGGGAUUUAGUUUUAGAAAUUGUUUUUGUUUGAAAGAAGGAACAUUGUUUGGAGUAUUGGACAGAGGGAAAAACAAAGAGGAAGCCUUAUUUUCAAACAAGUAACAUGGUUUUCCAAUUUCAAAGCCCAAUCCAAUAAAUUCUUAAUUUGCUAAAAAUAUGAUUUAUUAGUACCGUUGGGGUUAGAUUGGGCCCAGGUUGAAAAAAACUUACUCGAGGCUUGACUCGUUUAGAAAACAGGCCUCAAUUUUUUAUCCAAUCCCAUUUUUCAGGCUUAUAUUUUUGUCCAAAUCCUCCCACAUUUCAAGCGAGUUUGGUCGAGCAGCCCGACCCUUGGACAAGUCUGUUUUUUAUCUGCGCUAAUUUUUUAUCUAGUCUUUGAAACUAUGAGACUCGAAACCAUAUCUAAAAUUUUUCAUUCUUAUAUUUAUUAUUUUUUUGGGUUAAAGAAAUAGACACUAUCGUCUCAUAAAAUCAUACUGGCAUAAAAUCAAAAAAGAUUCGUUGAUUGGGUGUUGUGUGGUGUCUAGUUGGCAGAACCAAUACGGUUGAUUGCUAUAUUCAGUUUACUAAGAAAUACAUUGACGUGUUCAAUUUAGUGGUUGGUUGGACCCGUCAAAGAAAAUAACAAUCGGGUUUAAAUGACUUGCGCGGUUGAGGCCAUUUAUCUGAGUUGGGCCCUUCUGGUUCGCGAGGCUAUUGAAAAGUUAAAUCAUGGAUAUGUGUUUCAUGGUUUGUUUGGUAAGGGUUAAUCAUCGGACGUUCUCAUAUUUAUUUUAUACACGGAAGGGUUGGUGGCCUAAGGCGUCCUCGAUCACUAUAAUUGACUUAUCGAUUGGAGGAGAAAAUUCUUUGCCAAGAACUAGUUUGAAGUCAAAGUUUGAAGCUAGAGCGUCGUCACAUCGGUUUAUUUAAUUUUAAUUUUGUUUUAGUUUAUUUUACUCUAAUUUCAAUUUCAAUUUGUUUCUAUUACUUUUAUUUUUAAUCGGAUUUAAUCUUCCCUUUUAUUUUAGUAUAGGUUGACACACGUUGUGGACACGACAAUUGCUUGACUGCGUAACAUGGUUAAACCAAAAGUCAAAUUUCGAUACCUCAACACUAUGGGAUCAACCCUGCCACUUAUACUAUUUAGGUGUAGGAAUAUUAUUUUUGGUAGAUUCGACAUCCAUCAAAUUUUGGCAUCGUUCCAAAGGAUUGCUACUAACUAAUUUUGUGUUUUCCUUUUUACGGGCCUAGACGUACAGAUUGCUCAAGCACAAUCUAGAUGUAGAGCGUAAGAGGUAAAUGUAUCUUCAUGGAAAGUACACUUACAACAUGUUUGGUUGGGGGGACUAGGAAUGGUUUACAUCUUAAUUUGGUAGGCCCAUCACCAAACUAAUGUUUGGUUGACUGUAAUGGCCUAUUACGACUUGUGCUGAAUAGGGCUCUAUUCUGGGAAAAGGCUACAUAGUCAUUCCUUUCCCUUACCGUUAAAUAGGUAUUCAACUCGGUGGAUUAGGAAGAUUUUUCCCAUUUUCAAUUUUUUCCUCACCUUUACCCGGAGGAUAAAAACCAUGUAAUUGGAACCAUCAUCGUUCUCCCUCGGUCUCAUUGGUAACUUCCUUUCAUUUCCAUUUCUACUAAGGAUAUUGGUACUCUUUUUUAAAUGCUUCCCUUUUUUUUCCUUUGGUUGUAGAGGAAACCUACGUCAGUCAAUUGAAGCUAUCAUCCUUCGCUCUUUUUUCUUUUUCUUUUCCUAAGUUUAUAUUAUCUUGAAGCUAUCAGGUCCUCCUAAUUUUGAAAAAAGGGUAAGUUUUUUAAUGAUAUGUUUUCUAAACCCAAAAAUUAGGGCCUCGAGUUGCAUAUUCAACUAUGUUUCUUAUGUUUAGUGCAGGCAGUGAAAGAUCCUAAUUCUUCAAUUCUUUUGUUAUAAGAUUUUUAUGCAGAAUUUUAUAUUAUGAUUUGUAGCAUGUAAACUAUUGUAAUAUAACCCCUAGGCUUGAGAGUUAACUACAUUGGAUUGAGGGAGCAUAAGUUUGCUUUCUUUGUAUCUUAAUUGUAUUUUAUUUGUUAUUAGUCAAUUUUCAAAUAGGAACCUAGUUUCAGUUAACUUAUGAUUGUCAAAACCAUUUUUUUAUUUGAAAACAGAAAUCGACUUUUAAGAAUAAAAAUGGGAGUCAUGACCGAUCUUUUAUUGGGGUGUGAUCGGAUCACCUUGAAAACGAUUUUAGGUCUACAAAUUUUGAGAAAAUAGGUUCGGGAGUCGGUUACGCACGAGGAAGGGUUAACACCCUCGCCACGCCCAAAAAUUGAUACCGAAUUGAUUGCUUAAUGUCUUAGUGUUGAAAAUUUGAAAAGAUUUUAAAAUACGAUCCUUUGAAAAGAAAACUUGAAUAAUCGAAUUGGAUGAUAAGACAUACCCAUUUCAAAGAAAUAAAUUGUCAAGUUAGGGUGCAACAGUCCAAUCUUCGAAAUUAAGUUUGUCUUUUUAAAAUUUAAAAUUCAUGCUUUUUAUGAAGGAUAUUUGGUUAUUUGGGUCAAAUAAGAAAUUAGAAUCCAGUAAGUUAGGGUUCAAUUUCUCGAAAUUCCUAAACAUCGAAUAUUGCCUUUAUUUUAAAAUCCUUAACUCGAGAUAACAAAAUGUCAUAUCCAGUGAGUUAGGAUUCAACAUUUUGAAAUCCCAAAAAACUUUAUUUAGAAAUUUGUAUGGUUUUAUUGCAAAAGAAAUACUUGGCUAUCUAAAUUCAUCGAAAAAAAUUGAAGCUCGGUAAGUUAGGGCACAAUCCUCUCGAGAAUCGCAAAUACCGAGUAUUUUGACAAUUAACAAAAUAAGAUGAUUUUAAUGUUUUUAAUGAAACACGGUUUCUUUUAAAAAUGUAGUGUGAUUAAGCGGCAACAUACCACACAAAAUUUGAAUAUAAGAUGUACAUCAAUGAGUAAUGAACAAUAAAUAAAUAUAAACAAAUAGAAUAACAAUAAUUUCAAUCAUACAUUAUGCAAAUAUCAACAUCAACAUUAACCUAGAAGAAAAAUAAAAUGUAACUUAUAAAAACAAAAAAAAUGAGAGAAAGGAAAUUUGGAAUUAAUAAAGUAUGUACACAAAAUUAUACAUAAAAAAAUUAAAAAAAUAAGUAAUUAAUGUGAAGAUUUGAAACAAUUUAAUAAUAGAACUAAAAAUGAAAAAAAAAUGUUUAAAUGAAUUUUUAAGAAAGAAUUAUAAAACGAAAAUAAAAAUGAAUAAAUCUUAAAAUUAAUAUACAUAUUUUAAUCUAAAUGAGUAAAAACUUAAUGUAAACAAUAAUAUACAUUUAAUAAUAAUAUGUGUAAAAAUCGAAAUAAGUAAAACAUAAUAGAAAAUUUAAAAGAAAUAAAGUAUUUAUGUAUAGAAAAUAGGUAAAAAUUUAUAAUUUGAAAUUAAUAAUAUAUUUUUUAUAUAUACAUAUGUAUAUUAAUCACCGUGCUUAAGGGCUAAGAUAACCCUAAAAACCAAAAACCUUUCACUAAAAACCUAAACUAAACACUAUUUGCGCCGCUCUGUGAAUUAUCCAAUCAAGGAUUCUCCGAACCUCGCCCAAACUCCGAUGACGAAGGAGAGAGCAAGGAUUCGGCCACAAGGUCACUUCUCUGCUUUCUAAUAUUUAUUUUUAUAUUCUUUUAUUCAAAAAUGAAUCAAACAAACAUAGAAAAGAUAACCGAAAGAAAAAACAAAAAACAAAAAGAAAAAAGAAGAAGCAAAGGAAAGAUUUAAAAUCACCUUUAGAACUCUCUUUCUCUGAAUCUUUUGUUUUGAUUUCUUAAAUUGUGUAUGCAUAAAAAUUUACAGUAUUCCAGUGGCUCUUUUAUAGUCAGAUUUACAGAAAAAAUAAAACAAAAUAAAUAAAAUGAAAUUCCCUCAAAUUACAUCUGUUAUUCUGUUACUGCUGGCUUUCGUGUGUAUUUGCAGGUAUUCGGCCAGCCUCAAACAACAGACGGAGACACACCCAUGUGAGGAAGAUGCACGCGCCUGAUGGUGAUACACGCGCGAAGUCUGGGUCCAACCGCUGUGGCGCCGGUGAAACCCUAGAAGCUUCUGGGGUACUCCCCUGGUUCAGACUGAGUUCUGGGCCUGGGAGAUUCGGGUUUAGAAAAUUGGGUUUGGGGUCUAUUAGUAAUUUGGGCUAUUUUUAUAUUGGACUUUUAAUUUUAUUUUUCUGGUAUUUACUGGGCCAGUAAUGUAAUUGGACCUUAUUAUUAUUUUUUAUUUGGCUUGGUUUUUUUUGAAAUGUAUGUGGGCCGGGCAAAUUUGGGUUAUUACAAUGAUCAUCAUAACAAACCUUGUAUUUGACUUUUUGUUGAGGGAUAUCAACUCAUUUGGGAGAAGUCUUUUGAGUGUUGUCUACCAGACAACCGAUGUUGCCCUCAACAACUAAAGGUAUUGUCCCCAUGUCAAGAUUUUAACCCAGCCUCUGUAGAAUAAUUAUGGAGAAUAUGUGCAUAGGGAUUCAAACCACCAACCAAUGCAUAUGUAUCCUUUACUUGUAGAAUCAAGAUGUAAUAGCCCAUUUUUAGUAGUUUUAGAACUCCUUUUUUCGAUAAUCAAUUCAGUAAAUAAUAUUUAUUAAUAUUUACGAGUCUAUUAUAGUGUUAUAUUAAUUUUUGGUCUGGUAAUUUUGAUGAACGAUUAGUAAUUAAGGUACAAGGACUAAACCGUAAAAAACAUAAAAGUUGAUAGCUAUUGAAUUUUAUUAGUUAAAAGAAUUAAAUAGAAAUUGUUCAAGGGUUUAAGUGGUAAUUAGGCCAUUUUUUUAUAGUGGUGGACAAUUGAUGUUUUGUUUUAAGUAAUUAAUGUUAAAAAUUAUAAUGAAAUUGUGUUAUAUGUUAUAAGAAAAAUAAAACAACAGUGAUCAUCCGCUUUAGUUUCUUCCUUCUUCAACCAUGAGCACCAAAGAGAACUUCAGAAACCAUUUUUUUUACAUCAAUCUUGUUCGAUCCUCUUGCAUCAUAUGUUAACUAAGUCAUUUUCUUAUAAUUUUUAUGUUUUGAGAUCCCGGGGAGCUUGAUUUAAUUAACUCAAGUACUAAUUCACAAAGUUGUAAAGUUUUGAAAUGUUGUCAUUGAUGAUUAUUAAGCUUUUGGUAUUAAUUGGUUGAAUGUUAAGCUUAGAUGUUAAAUAUGACUAUUUUGUAAUGAGAAAAUUACUAGUUUUGAGUAUACGGACUAAAGUGUAAAUAUUUUGAAAUUGACAUGAAAUUUAUAUAAUUAUUGAUUCUAGAGGGUUAUAGAAUGAUGAAAUUGAAAUCCGAUUGAAAAAUGAAGCUUGAAUAUGAAAGUUAUGGUUAUUUUGGUUUUAGGGACUAAAAUGAAUAAAAUGUAAAAAAAUUAGUGAAUUUGUGAAAAUUAAAAUUUAAGUGUCAUAUGUAUAGAAUACGGUGUUGUAAGGUAAUUGGAACUGAUAAAUUGAAAUGAAUUACAAUAUAGUUUAAGAUUUGAAUUGACCAGAAGUUAGUCGAGGAAAAAGGAAAAUUGUAGAUUAGGCCCUGACACUUCGCUUACUAUCGUUUUUUCCAGGUAAGUUUAUAUGGUAUACUUAUAUUUAAUUGUUAUAGAUAAUUGAAUUAUAAAUUGUGUAUGUGUGUAUGUAAUUUGAGUUGCUUUUAUGUUGAUGUAUGAUUGCACUCUAAUGCCCCUGAUUGCACUCUGGUGCCCUUGAUUGCAUUUUUGUGCCUCUAUAUGCACUUUGGUGUCCCUGUUUGUAUUACAAUGAUCGUCAAGAAAUGAACAGAGUUUGAGCGAUGAGUUCAAAUGGGAUAAUAUGAACAUGUCCAUGGUUGAAUGUGGAAUUGAUUUUGGUGUGGUACUAAAGCGUUAAAUUAUAAUAGAGUUUCUUGUACACUGAAUUAGCAUAUGGAAGGAUUGUGUGAACUCAUCUUGAGGAAAUUGUACUACCAUGGUUAGGUUUAAUUGGCAACUUGGUUAAGUAAUUACUUAUAGGUUUUAAAUGAGGCAAGCUAAUCAUUCUAUGCUUAUGAACUUGCUAAGUAUUUUAAAAUGCUUACUUUGUCUUGUUUUCCUAUCUUUUAGUUGCCUUUUGCGGAACGCAACAAUGGAUAAACUUGGAGCUCACACAAUCUAGUCUUUAAUUUGUGGAAUAUUACAUAACCCAAAUGGCAUUACUCUCCAUUGAUAAUGUCCAUUAGGAGCACUAAAGGCUAUUAAGGGUUUAGAUUUAUUGGUUAGCAUGAUUUGCCAAAAACUCUAUUUACAAUCAAACUUACUAAAGUAUUUAGCUUAUUUAGCCUGAUUAAUCAAAACAUCUUUUCUUGGAAUAAAAUAUCCAUCAAAAAAUAAUAUUUUGAUUUAACCUUUUAUAAUUAAUUACCAUCCUAACUUUUCCUCUUUUUAUUUCGGCAUGGUUUCUUACCAUAAAAGCGGGACUAGAAUGUGGACUAUUAGUUUUUUCUAUUAAUCCCUUUUCUAAUAGUUCAUUUAUUUGAACUUCAAAUUCAUCUAUAUCUUGUUUAGUAUGGAUCAUAGGUUUAACUCUGAUAAUUUUAUUGGGAUUUUCUAAUUUAAUAUCACAGUGUCUAAGACUAUUAUUCCAUAAUUUUAAUGGUUCUUCACUAAAAUUAUCUUCAAGAAUUUUAAACAACCAAUGAUUUGUUUCUAGUUGUUUAAUUUGUUCCUUUCUAGUUGGUGUAAAGUUUUUAUCACACACAAACUUAUGAUUUUCUACAACUGGUAUUUCCACUGAAGACUUUUCUACAGAUAAAAUAAUUAAAUUUCUAUCUAUAGAAAAUGGUAGAUGCUGAUAUAUAAAAUUAUUUCCUAAUAAUAUAUCUCCAUGCAUCACAGGAAAACAUAAUAUUUUUGGAAUCACAAAUCUUACAUUGUUCAUGUAGAUUGAUAUAUUUCUAGCCUUAUAUUGAAUUAUGGUUUCGUUACCAUCUAUUCCUAUUGCAUUUAUAAGAUUUUUCAUUAAUUCACAUUUUUCUACAGGAAUGACAUUUUUUUGACAACUACUGGUUGUAGCUCCUAUAUCUAAUAAAGCAUGUAAAGAAUAUUUUUUAUAUUCUUUAAACUGAAAUGUAAUUUUAAUAUAUGUAUAAUAUUUCCUUGAUUGAAAAUUUGAAAAGGUAAUUACAUCAUCUUUUCUAACUUUAUUUGUUGAAUAAUUGUUUGUAGUUUUUUCAUUCUAGUGUUUCUAGAAUUUUCCAACACAAAUAUAUAAUCUUUAUUAUUAUCAAAAUUUUUUUCUGAUAGUAUUUUACUAGGAUUUGUUUCCUUUUUAUAACAUAUUUUUAAAUCUUGUUUUUCAAGACUUUUGAUCCUUUUUCUAGCUUCUUUUCUUUUGUUAGAAAAGUUUUUGACUAUAUGAUCUUUCUUAACACCUAAAAAGCAUUUAUAACUUAGUUUUUUAAGUUUUCUAGAAGUUUUUCCUCUAAAAAGACUUUUUGCUACCAGAAAACUUAUUAUUUCUUAAUUUCCCUUUAACUAAUUUAUAAUGUUUUUUCUUUUUAUGCCUAUGAUGUUCAAAGGCGUCCAGAGGCAGACAAAAAAGUUUUGCAAUGUGGAAGCAACCAUCAAAUCCAUGAUGGGAAAAGACGGUGAAACGUGGAAGCAACCAUGAUCACACAAGAAACAUGACAAAUGCGACGUGGAAGCAACCACAUCCAUUCAAGAAGGGAUCCUUAUCAGAAUCACUGUUCAAGAUUCAAAAUACAAUUGUAUAGAAUUUUUGAAAUUGGACUAUAAAUAAAGAUAGGCUAUCAAUUGUAGAGGCAUCUUGAAAAUAUCGUAUAGUUUUCCCUUUUAUAUUUUCUCUUCUGUAAACACUUUCCUUUUGUAAAUUAAAAGAGUAUAUAACCUUCCACACAUAGCAUGCACUCUACCACCCUUCCCCCUAUUGGUAUCAGAGGUGCCGGUGUAAAUAUUUUUUGGAGAAAUAAUAUCGUAGUAUUCAUUGUAAGUCUUUAUCUUUGAUUUACAGUUCUGUUUGUUUCAUGUUUAUUUGACUCAAAACCCAUAUAUCUAUUAUUCUGUCUUUCUAUUGCCGUUGAGUCUAGGGAGGACGUUUAGGCCUUUGAGAGAAGACGUUUAAGAUAAUAGACGGUUUUAGGUACCAGGGACAAAUAAAAUGGAGCCGAUAGAGUGUUUAUAUAAAGAUAAAACUUGUAAUCAUACUAUGAUCUGUUGAAAGGCAAAUCAUGAUCAUGUGUGCAAUUUGAAUUAUGGUAUCUUGGUUCAUGAAUGUGACUUGGAUUUUUAAUGUAUAUAUGUCAUAUACCUAUAUGUAUUUACUGGUUAGUAAUGCUUGAUGAAAGACACAUUUGUUUAACUAGAUUGGCAUUGUUAUGCUUGUAUACUUGGUGAAUGUAUUUAGGCCUUAUUAGAUACAUGAGAUUACUUGAAUAUGCGAACCUCAUUGCAUUGAAUAUGCCAGCUGUCAUUGUAUUGAAUGUGUGAAUUUUCAAUGUAUUACAUAUGUGAACUAUCACUGUAUUUUUCUGCGUGAACUGCAUUUGUAACGCGUGAGUUAAUUAUCCACUCAAAGUAUGAGUAACCAACCCAUAAUAUAGUUAUAAGCGAACUCUAUAUAAAUGGUUUUGAGGUGAACUGUGACAAUGUGUGAAUUGUGUUUAUAUGCGAACUGAGUUAUAUGUGAACUGUGUGUAUAUGCGAACUGGGUUACAUGCAAAUUGUGUUUAUAUGUGAAUUGUGUUUAUAUGCAAACUAUGUUUAUAUGUAAGUUGUGUUUUAUGCGAACUAAGUUAUAUGCGAACUGUGUUUAUAUGUGAAUUGAGUUAUAUGCAAAUAGUGUUUAUAUGCAAAUUGUGUUUAUAUGUUAUCUGUGUCAACGUGUGGACCGUGUAAAUGUGAGAUCUGUAAUUGUAACUUAAUAUGUGAACUGGUUCAUUAAAAUUAUGUGUGAACUGACUUUGUAUGGCUUGUAUCAUAUACAUGCUCUUUGUAAAGUAAUUACGUGCGAGCUCUUUGUAAAGUGACUAAGUGCGAGCUAGUCUAUAAAGUAGUAAAAUGUGUGUUAUGUAAUCUAUGACUUGUAUUGACAUGCGAACUAUGUUAAUACAUGAGCUGCGUCAACUUGUGUGCAGUAGCAAAAGUACAAGCUAUACUGUGAUAGUAGUUAUAGCUCAGGUUCAGUGAUUGGACCAGGCGAGGGGUGUUAAACAAUAGACAAAAUCUCAACACGAAAAUAAUACCAUUUUUUGAGAGUCCGUCAACACAAUAAAUGAAAUUUAAAUGCAUACUUUUUUCAAUGAAAGUAAAUAUCAUAUUAAUUAAAGAAAAGCAACUAAAAAUCCAAUAAUAAAAUCCUUAGCAAAAGAUUGAAACACAAUUAUAUUGUAAAUGAAGUAAGAAACUAAGAAAAUCCAAUCUAAUAAAGAAAAUAACUUGAUGCCCCAAAGCUACCAUAAAACUAAAUCAUGGUAAGGCCUGCUGCUCGUUUUAUUGGUUUCCAUCUUUAUUUUGCAAAGGAAGUUUGAAUUUCGAAUAGAGCCUAGUACAUGGGAGCAAAAGAAAGAAAAUUAGUAUAUUAAUUUCCACGAUUUUUAAAACAAACUUCAUGGAAACGAAUAUUGACAUAUUAGAUAUCUAUGAUUAUAAUGCUAAAAUAGAUUAAAAUUAUUAAAUUAAUGGUAAAAUUUAGAGUGAAUUAAUAACCACAAGCGUACUCGUUACUCACCAUAUUUGUUAAACAUGUUUGAUGUUGUUUAGCAACCUUUGUUUGAUUUUCUUUAGUUCAACCACAACAUCUUUCAUGUCUUUUCUUUCUUCUGGUAACUCAGCUGAACAAUUCAGAGCCAACUCCAUGAUGGCUGAAAUACAAUUUGUUUUAACAACGAAGUACUCAUCCUCUUUUCUUAAUAAAUCAGCAUCUGCAAUUUCUAUUGCUCCUUUAGGCAAUGAAUAUUCCAUCCAAUGCCUUAUAGUCACUUCUUCAGCAAAAAGAUUAUCAGUUGGCUUUUUCUUUGUGAAAGUUUCUAUAAGGAUGAUCCCGUAACUAUAUACAUCACAUUUUAUAGAAACAAUUCCAGUUGAUCCAAAUUCUGCAUUUCAAGUAUAAUUAGAGCAUCAUUAAUCCUUAAUUAUUUCUAAAAUGCUUAUUUGCAUGAAGCAAAAAUAUAAAUUGCAAAUCAAGAAAAUAAUCAUACAAAAAUAAAAAAAUUCACCUGGUGCCAUAUACCCGAUAGUUGCAAGAGUCAUGGUUUGCUUCAUUACAUCACCUUCUCCCAACAAUUUGGCCACAUGUUUAGACAAGCCAAGAGACCUUUGGGAUCAUACGGGUGAUUUUGAUGCUGUUAAUGGUUAUUUUGGUGGAGAGGGUGAAAAAGAAACAAAUGGUCCAUUAUAUAUAAUAUAAUUAUGAAAUUCAAGCCAUAUAUUGUAUGUUUCAUACAUAAAAAUUUCAUGGGAGGUCCAAAAGUAAUUAAAUGACUUGUAGGCUUGCUGAAUUUCAUCUUUUGAAUAGGUGGUAUUAGGUCCAAAAGUAAUUUAACAUUCACAUAAUAAUCUCUAAAUACUGUAAAGACAAAUCAAAUCCACAGCAACAUUAGAGUUGAUCAAGCUAAGCAUUGGCAAAUAUUACUUUGAUUUUGCAUGCAAUAUUGGCAAAAUCCCCUCUUACAUUAGAAAAACAACAUAAUCCAUGAAACAUUGAUAGCCCAAUACAAAUUUCAUCAAGAAAAAAGUUUCUUUGUUUUGUAGAACAUGAUGGUAAAGAUGUGGAGUUUCCUUUAGUUUUCCUUGAUCAACAACCACUUGCCAAAAACACAAUUAGAUUAGAUUAUGAAUGAUACUUUCAACUAUGACAAUAUUAAAUACUAAACACUCCAAAUAGCUCUAAAUAACUGGAAAGCAACAAAUUACCUGACGAGGCAAGCUAGCUCAAUUAAGACCAUUGUGUUAUACUUGUCUCUGAAUUGAAAAAUCUAGAAGACAAUAAAGAGAAAGAGUUAGCAAAUACUUGAAAACCGAUAAAACUUAUAUGUCAUUGAUUGGAUAAACUACGAUCACCCAUAAUAGCCUUUAUCUUGCAACCAUCUACAUGAACCUAUAGGGCUCUUAGCAGAAUCAAGAGACAAAACCUUAACAUGAGAAAAAUACCAUUUGUUGAGGGCUUUGUUAAUAGGGUCGUACCUAGGAGAGUUGGUAGGGGUCCCAACCCCCCUUAAAAUUAAAAAGUUUCCAUUUAGGCCCUUUAAAAUUUUUAAAAUUUUUAAUUAAUAAACGUAAAAUUGUACUUUGGCCCCCCCAAAAUGAUAAAACUUUGAUUUAAUCCUUUAAAAAAUAUAAAAAUAUAGGCUAUUAAAACGGUGAAAUUACGUUUUUACCAUCGUAAAAAUUACAAUUUAAUUUCAACUCCUAAAAAGAUUUUCUGGCUUCGCCCCUAAUAAAACCUUUGGCAAAAGAUGAAAAUAAAUUUAUAUCGUAAAUAAAAAAAGAAACUAUGAAAAUCCAAUCCAACAAAGAAAAUAACUUGAUGUCGAAAUUUAAUGCAUUUUAUUGGUUUCCAUUUUGAUUUUGAAGAGAGCCUAGUACGUGAGAGCAAAAGAAAAAAAAUGGUUUAUUAAUUUUUACGAAUACCGACAUAUUAUAUAUAUGAUUAAAAUUCCAGAAUAACCACAAGUGUGAAUUAAAGAUAAAAUUAAGUGUGAAUUAAUAAUUAGAAGUGUACUCAUUACUCACCAUCUCUGUUAAAAAUGUUGGAUGUUGUUGAGCAACCUUUGUUUGAUUUUCUUCAGCUCAACCACAACAUCUUUCAUAUCUUUUCUUUCUUCUGGUAACUCAGCUGAACAAUUCAAAGCCAACUCCAUGAUAGAUGAAAUACAAUUUGCUUUAACAACAAUGUACUCAUCCUCUCUUCUUAAUAAAUCAACAUCUGCAAUUUCUAUCGCUCCUUUAGGCAAUGAUCUUUCCAUCCAAUGCCUUAUAGUCUCUUCUUCAACAAAAACAUUAUCAGUUGGCUUUUUCUUUGUGAAAGUUUCUAUAAGUACGAUCCCAUAACUAUAGACGUCAGAUUUUAUAGAAACAAUUCCUACUGUUCCAAAUUCUGUAUUUCAAGUAUAAUUAGAACAUCAUUCAUCCUCAAUUAUUUCUAAAAUGCUUAUUCAAAUAUAAAUCCACAUACACAUGAAACAAAAAUAUAAAAUGCAAAUUAGGAAAAUAAUCAUACAAAAAUAAAAAAAGAAUUCACCUGGUGCCAUAUACCCGGUUGUUGCAAGAGUCAUGGUUUGUUUCAUUACUUCACCCUCUCCCAACAAUUUGGCAAUGCCAAAAUCUCCAACAUGUGCAACCAUGUCUUCAUCUAGUAAAAUAUUGCUUGGUUUUAUGUCACAAUGAAUUAUAGGUGUUGGAUGUCCAUUGUGGAGGUGUUCUAUAGCUACCGCAACAUCUAUCAUUAUGUCGACCCUUUGUAUGAUAUCAAGGAAACAAUUUUCAGAAUGUAACCAUUUCUCAAGGUUUCCAUUAGACAUGUAAUCAAGCACCAAGGCUUUGAAGUCAACACUUGAACAGCAAGUAAUGACCUUCACAAUAUUACGAUGAACUAUAUUACGCAUAGCAUCACAUUCAAUGUCAAAACUCCUAAAUGCUCCCUCUGUUUGCAAAUUGAAAACUUUUAUUGCAACUUCCAUUCCAUCUGAAAGCCUCCCUUUAUAUACACAUCCAAAACUCCCUGAACCAAGCAUAUUGCUUUCCUCAAAUCCAUUAGUUGCUCUUGAAAGUACAGCAUAUGAAAUUCUUCUCGGUGUUUUCAAAGACAGCAAAUCAUCUUUAAUUGGUAGAGUUGUACUCCUUCGCCGGCAUCUUCUAUACAUAAUAGUUAAGACUAAUAGUACUAUGACAAUACCAAUUGUUGGUAAACCAUACCUAAAAGCAUGCAAUAUAAUCAUUUGGGAGUUUUUGUGGAUGUCGUUUUUGCAAGGUGGGACUAGCAAUCUAGGUGGACCACAAAGUGCAUAAUUCCUCAUGAAUGAUGUGCUAGAAAAGUUUGAAAAACAUCCUUUGCUGGGAAUUUCCCCUUCAAGUCUAUUGAAUGACACAUUAAAAUACUUUAGAUAUAAAAGCUUUUCCAAAGAUUUGGGAAUGACUCCAGAGAGAUUGUUAUUGGAUAAAUCCAAGAAUUCCAAACUAAUCAACCCAUCAAAUGAUUCAGGGAUAUGACCAUGUAGUAUAUUAUUUGAUAAAUCUAAUGAAACCAAAGUUUGAAGACCCCCAAAUGUGGAUAAGACAUCGCCCGUGAGAAGAUUCCUUGAUAAAUUUAGUUUCAGUAGACUCCUCAAAUUUCCAACAUCAAUAGCAUGUGAAUUGUGAAGAUGGUUUGAUGAUAAAUCUAUUUCUAAGAUAUCUUUAAGAUUCCACAAAUUUGAGGGUAUUGCGGAACUCAAUCUGUUGGAAUUUAAGUAAAGAUAUCCCAAAGAAGUAAUAUUACCCAAACAAGAGGGUAUGGGUCCAUGCAGCUUAUUCAACCCUAAAUACAUCUUGUAUAGUCUCUCCAAACCACAGAGGCUUUCGGAGAUAGGCCCUCCUAAUUUAUUAGAGGAAAGAAAUAGACCUUGGAGAUUUCUCAUUCCUCCUAUUGAUGCUCGAAUCAAUCCACUUAAUUUAUUAUAGCCAAGUUGUAAAAGCAAUAGGUUGGUUAAGUUACCUAUUUCCAUAGGAAUAAUGCCUUGAAGCUCACAAUUAUGGGCAUAAAAGUAUUGAAAGGAUUUUGAAAGGUUCCCGAUAUAAGUAGGAAGAACGCCACUCAAUGGAUUUCCUGAAACCGCUAUUUUUCUCAAAUGCCUGCAAUUCGAUAAAGAAGAAAGAAAGCUCCACUCAUGAUCAGUAGCAGAUCCUGUGAUGAAAUUAUUGUUUACGAUUCGGAACCGUUCAAGGUGUCUUAAGUUGCCAAGUGUUUUAGGGAUUGGACCAGAGAAUAAGUUAUGUGACAACUCUAGUUUCUUAAGCAUGGAAGCAUUGGAGAUAGAGUUGGGAAUGUUUCCGCUAAGUUUAUUUCCCCACAAAAAAAGAAACUCAAGCUUUGGAGCAUUGGUGAUGGGUGGUAAAUUACCUGUAAAAUAGAAUCUUUUAGUAUACAAAUUCACAAAAUAUAUAAUACAUUAAAGUAAAAACUGUAAAACUUUAAAUCAAUUAAGAAUAAAAUUUUGGCAUGGAAAAAUGUGAUGAAAUCAAUUAGAAAGUUGAGACAUAAUAAGAAGUUUUGAGUAGUAAUUAGUCCUUGUGAUUUGUAUAGACAAAACAUAUAAUACACUAAUAAUUUUUUAAAAUAUUGUAAAACUUGAAAUAAAAUAAAAAUAAAAGUUUGGCAUGAGAACGUGGCAUCUAAUCAAUCUUAAAAAUGAGACUGAUACUGAAUAAUAAUUAGUUAUGAUUUGGGAAACAAAAAUGUUAAAGUCAUUGUUUUUAAUGUAAACUGGUAUGAUUUUGACCUAUUAGGUUAAUUAUUUAUUUUUAUUAAAUUAUAGUGUAAAAUUUAAAGAUUAUUAUUUGCUCAAAAUUUUUGUGUUUUUCGUAUAUUUGAAAUUUAAUCUUUAUAUUUUUUAUUUUCUGUGAUUUAGUCUCUCUACUUUUUGAAUUAAAAAUUUUAGGUUCAUUUAUUAACACUGUUAAAAAAGUUUUUCUGUUAGUAUGGCAUUUUGAAAAAUAAAAUAAACUUGAUAUCUAUGUUUUUAAUUAUUCCAAAUAUUGUUUCACUAUUUCAAGAUAAAUUAUUUGUGUUUAGACCAAUAUCUUAAGAACUAUUGUUGCAUGUUUAAUUAUUCUAAAGAAUUGUUGAUUGAGUCUUAGCUGAAGUGCACUAUUCUCCUAUUUAUGAAUUGGGGAGUUGGUAAAGUAUUAAAUUUUGAUAUAUUUUAAAAUAUUAAAAAUUUAUUAAAAUAUUUUUUAUAAAAAUUGAUUAUACCACAAUAUACAAUUUUAAUAUCAAAUUUUUAUUUUUUUUUAAAAUAUUAGCGAAUAUAUACUUUAUUUCAAGUUACACAAUUUUUACUAGUUUUUAAAUUUUUUUAAAAAUUUUUAUCGUCUUUUAUAAUUUCUAAUAAUUUUUUAUAAUUUUUUACAAUAUUUACAAUUUCUAACAAUUUUUAAUAAUUUUAUUAUUUAUUACAAAUUUAAAAAUUAACAAAUUUUUAUUUUUUAAAACAAUUAUAUAUUUAUAAUGUAGUUGUUUUUUUUAUAAUUUUAUUUGAAAUUUUAAAGAUUUUUUUUGGUUUUUUUUAGAUGAUGAUGCCAUCAUGAUGUCAUCAUAUGUCACAUGGCAAUUUAUAAUUAGUUGAAUAUCUCAAUCUAUUUUAUUAACGUCCAAUAGACUAAAACAAGAACACCUGAUAAUGUUAGAGACUACACUAGGAAUGUUUGAUAAUAUUAGGUACUAAAGUGGGCAAAAAAAAUUAAGGACUAUAUUAAAAAUAUAUCUAUAAUAUAUAUAAAUGCAUGGAUUUUGAGAAACUUUUGAAAUGAUAAUUAUAUAGUCUUUGUUUUUUUUUUCUAUAUUAUUGAAUUUUUUAUUUUAAAUAUUUUUUUAUUACUUUUAAGAUUUAUCAUAUGCAUGGAUAAGAAUUUUGGUUUUACUAAAAUAUUUGGUUAAAUAAAUUCACUUCAUAAGAAAAUUUAGGAUCCUUAUAAAUAACAAUUUUGAUUCUAUUAAAAAUAUUAUUUUAAAAAAUAUAUAAUAAAAAUUUAAAAUUUAUAUUGAAUUACUUUAUACUUAAAUUAUUAUUAGAAACUUUAUCAUACACAUACAUAUAUGAGAAGCACGUAUUUAGAACAUAAAUUUGUGUUUUAAAAUAACUUAUGAUAAAUAAUGAAAUGUAUAAUUUGAAACUAUUUAAUAAUAACACAUGGCAUAUCUACCAUAUUAAAAUAAAAAUAGAUUAAAUUGUAGGUAAAACAUAAUUUAAACAUAUGAAUACAUCAAAUUAAGAAUACUAAAUGAAUACAGUUAUUUAUGAUGAUGUUGUUGCCAAUUCUUAACUUGGUGUCGAGUUAAUUUGUGACAUCAUAAAUUUAAGUGGUAAAUUUAAGGUUUUAUGUAUUGAUGUGGAUUCAAAUAUCACCAUAAUUUUUUUUAAAAAUAAAAAACUAAAGUACCCUCAAACAAUAUAACUUAUAUUAAAUAUGAAAGGGUAUUUUUAUAAUUUCUUUAACCGAGUUGAUGCCCGGUUGACUCAUGACACCAACUCAAUCAAAAGCUUCAAUAAUAAUAUAGAUAUUCACGUUAAAAAAACCAAAAAAAGUACUUUAGUUCCAAAUAAUUAUAUAAUAAGUAAAUUUAUAAUUGAUGAAUAAAUUUAUAAAUAAUAUAUUUAUAUGAUCUAAUAUAUUAUAUAUAUUAAUUAUAUAUCAUCUACAAACUUUGAAGAUCAAUUUAUUAAGUAUCAAGAAAAGAAAAAAUGAAAUUGAAUUAACACUAAAUCGAUUUUUAGAUUUUGUCCAGAUGAUUUAAUGAUGAUAAAAAAAUUAUUAGCACUAUUUUUGAAUUAACAAAAAAUUAGUGAUAUAUUUUAAUUAUAUUUAUUAUUUAUUAGUUUUAAUAAUGUUUUUUUAAUUAUAUGAAGUAAAAUUAUAUCGUAUACUAAAUAUGGUACAUAUACUUUAAUUAUAACUUGAAAAAUUAUUAUAUAAAUUAAUAUAUUUUAAUUAUAUUCAACCAUUUGAAUAACAAAAUUAAAAAAAAACUAAUUAGAAUUAUUUACUUUUUAAAGUUUAAUGGAAAUUAAAAAAUUAAAAAUAAAUCAAUUCAUAUAAAUCUUAUUGUUUAUUAUCAGAUUAAUAUGAUAAAAGUAUAUGACAUAAAUAGAAGAAACAAAUUCAACACAAUGUUUUUGGAGUUUGGAAAAAAUUAAAGUGAAAAACAUACCUUCUAAUUUGUUGUUAAAUAGCUCUAUACCUUCGAGCGUAGUUGAAUUAAAAAUACUUGAUGGAAUCUGGCCUGCACACAUAGUCGAAAAUUGAAGUGAAAAAUAUACCUUCUAAACUGUUCAACUAAAAAUACUUUAAGCAUCUUUUUUUCCAUCAAAUUAGUUAUCUAUUACAAAUCAAACUCUUUUAUGAAAUGUUGAAGAUGGAAGAUGGAACCUGACCAGAUAAUUGAUUGAAUCCCAAGUUCAAGAUCUCUAGAUUAGACAUGUUAACAAGUGUUUCAGGGAUUGUGCCUGUAAAGUUAUUAUUCUUCAUUUCCAGCCUUCGAACUCUUUGUAAGUUCCCAAGCCAUGAUGGAAUUUCCCCAUUCAGACGGUUGUAGCUUAAUUGAAGGAUCCUCAAACGAUGCAAGUGGCCCAAUUCUUUAGGGAGAUGGCCAUAGAAAUGGUUGCUACUCAAGUCUAGAGAGAGUAGAAAUGAAAGAUUUCCAAGGUGUGGAGGGAUAGUACCCCUAAGAUUCAUGCUUGUAAGAUUCAAAGCUAUAACUCUUUUAUGGAGGAUGCCACAAGAAACACCAAUCCAAUUGCAAACAGAGGUUGAGGCCGUCCAAUUGUUUGCCAUGACAUUUUGAGGACCGGCAAUGCGAUCCUUGAACUCGAGAAGUGCAAAUUGAUCAGAGUUGAGAUUCCUGACUGUUAUAGCCAAGCAAAGUACGGAACAUGGUAUGAAUAAAGCUAAAAGAAGAUGAAAGCAAGUGUUGUAGUCCAUGAUUGCAAGACGGAAUAAGGCAAGAAAAUAAAAAAAAAAGUAGGAAAAGGGAAGUUGAGUUGAUAAAAUAGUUUGGAUGAUGAAGAAAAGCCCAGAGAGCAUGCUUUAAUAUGUUUCAACCCUCGCACACUUGAUAAACUUGAUAAAUUUAAGACUACUCUAAAAAUUAAAAAGGAAAACAAAGUUUUGAUGAAAUUUCAAAAUAAAUGUCAAGUAUUCUUCUUUUAGAAAUACGUAUAAAGAAGUGAAUUUUCAAAAUUUCUCCUAAAUUUUCUUCACAUUACUCCACAUAAUCCAUUAAAAAAAACUUAAAAAAUAUAUUUUAUUAAUUACUAUAUAUUCUUUUAUUUUCAGAAUAAUAAAUUGUUUAAAAUAUGCUACUAGUCCCUGUAAUUUAAAAGUUAAAAAAAAUCCAAUCCUCCUAUUUUUUUAAUUUAAAAAUUCUAGUCCAAUCAUUUUUAAUUCCAUUAAAAAAUUUCAACUUAAUAGAUUUUUUAUUAUCAAUCAUAUGCAACAUUAUAUGAAGGCAGUCUACUCAGUAUAUAUCCAAGUUUACAUAUUUUAAUAGAAAAUACUUACAAUCCUAAUGAUAGGACUAAGUUUUUUAAACUAGAAAAGUACAAAAACUUAAAUUUUAACUUUUUUAAGUACAAGGAUUAAAUUUUAAAUGUUGUCAAAGUACAAGCACUAACAAAAUAUUGUGAUCUAAUAAAUGUAAAAAGCAUUUUAAACAAAAGAUGGUUGAAAUAAUCUAUUUGUCCUUAUACUUUGAUAAAAUUUGAGAUACCAUAAAAUUUGUAUCUUUUUUCGAAUUAUUUAAUGCCAUUUCAACAUUUUCAUUAAAAAAAAAACAUAUCAUUUUGAAUUUGAUCUUUUUCAAGAUGAAAAUAUUGAAAUGAUGUUAAAUUAUCGGAAAGAGAUACAAGUUUCAUGGUAUCUCUCUAAGAAAGCUGAUGUAAGAUAUUAAUGACAUCAUUUGAACAAAGUUUUAGGUCAAAUUAUUCAUCUAGUCCUUGUAAUUAUUCUUUAAGGUGAAUUUCAUUAUUAUUCUUUUAUUUUCUUUGGCUUAAAUAAACAUUUACCCCUAAUUUUAUCACAUUCUCCUUAAUUGGUAUUUAUAGUUUAGAAAAUUUUACAAAUAUAUUAUUUUUUAAGAAAUUAUAAGAAGAUUACAAAAAUUCCAAAAUAAUAUAAAAAAGCUAAGAAAAACCUAGAAAUUCAAAAAACAAAAAAAUAAUGUUUUUACAAAUUGGGGUAUGCAAUCAAUUUUAAGAUGGUUUUUGGAGUUCAUCUCACUUUAGCAUUGACUUACUUUUCUACAGUUAGUCUUCUCCAACAAGUUAAAUAUUUCAAUUUUAACAACAUUGACAGGUCUUAGGGGUAGGGUCGAGCAAAACUCAAUAGAAAUAGAUGAUAUAGGUUGAGUUGGCUCGGCCAAGUCGAGUCGACUUGUUCAAAUUUGUUAAAUUAGUAAAUUUUGGGGUGCAGUUAGAAUUUUUUUGUUUUGAGAUGCUAAGAUUAAAAAAAUUUGAGUUUUGAAAACUUUGACUCCUUUUUGCUUUGAGAGUUGAUUUGAAGAGAAAAGAGCUUGAAGGUGCUUUUGUAGAAAUAGGACAAAUUUUAAAAUAAGGAGUAAAUUGGAAAAAAAAAUUUGGGUUGGGCUAAUUUGAAAAUUUGACACUUUUGUGGGAUAAAAAUAGAAAAAUAUUUUGGUUGAAUACACAUAAGGAGUUACGAACUUGAGACUUAUAGGUAGGCUAAGGCCUUACCACUUAACCAACAAGCUCAUUAUUAUUAUCUUUUAACACAAAUAAAUUUUAAGGCAUACUAAGGGCUUGUUUAGCAUUGCAGUGAAGAAGCAUUUUGGCUUAAAAAACACUUUUGAGAGAAAAGUGGUUCUAAGCUAGUAACUUUUGGCUAAGAUUUUGGCUUUUCAAAAGCAAUUUUGGCCAAAUGGAGAAGUUAAAAUUAUUAGCUUUUCUUACCCAAAAGCAGUUUUGAGUGCUUAAUUACUAAUUCAUCCCCCCAAAAACACAAUUUAAAAUAAAAUAAUACAAAUAUGUUAAUAUUUAAUUACAAAUAUUUAAUGGGUAUAUUUAAAUAUUUAAAAUAUAAUUUAUAUAUUCUAAUUAAAUUUUAUAAAUAAUUAAUAUUUGUUGCUUAAAAAUAUUUAAAAUUUAUAUUUUAUAUAUUAAAAUAUUAACAACAAAUUAUAAUAAAUUAUUUUUUAUAUUCUUACUAAAAUAUCAUAAUAUAAAUUAAUUUUAAUAUUAUUUAAAUACAUAUUUGUUACUUUAUAAUAUCAUGUCUAAGAUUGACGUUUUAUUUCUCAAAAGCACUUUUUGAAAUUAAUACUAAACACUUAAAUUUUAAACUAAACUUCUCAAAGAUACUUUUCUACAACACUUUUAAAAGCACUUUCCAAAAUCAAUGCUCAACUACCUCAAACUCUCUUACCUUAUACUUUAAAAGAGAAAAAAAAAAGAUUUUAAAUUUUAUCCCUAUUUCUUUUAACCCAAUUUUUAGGAUGUCAAACAUUUAUAAAUAAAAUAAGUAAAAGGAAAAAAAAGCAUAUACUUUAUUUUUAUCGCAGGUAAAAGUUUUAAUGGAGAGGAUCAUGUAAAAUUAUGAUCUGAAUAAUUUUAAACAUUUCAUCAUUGCAAAAAUGAAAUAAUAGAAAAGAAUGACUAUUCGAAUUUGCAUUUGUGUUCUUUCUUUCAAUAUUUGCUUUCAAAACUGUGGGAAAAUUUUAAAUUUGAUGAAAUUUUAAAAUUGCAGUUCAGUAAAAUAUAAAUUUUAUGAAUUUGGAGUAGCCAUUUUAUUUAUAAUUUUCUGUGUUUUCUUCUUUGCUGACUUUUUUAAUGUCAUUUUCUAUCAUGAAAGAAACUUAAAGAUUCACUAUGUAUUUCUCAACCACUAUGAAAUUACUUGACUACGGGGGUAGAAUUUUCUCACCAAUUUUCUAACAUUAGAUUUUUUGAAUGAGACAAAUAUUCAAUUUUAACACAUUUCCCAUAAUUAGUCACCCCUAUUUGUGAGUGAUUUGGGGAUAAAAGCUUAAACAUUUAUGGAUCACAUUGCAUUUAAGACGGGUGUUUGGAGUUAUAUGAAAUUUUAACAUAGACUGGCUUUUCUAUAAAGAGUACUCCUUGCUUUACUAUUGUCAUGAUACGAGGAGAUACUGAAAAUUAUUGUACUAUGAAAUUUUAAUUCACUCGAAAAAUAAGUGUUUUAUUUCAAGGGAUUAAUAUUAGCUUUCUCUUUUUUAAAUUUUGAAUUUUUUUUGACAACUGCGUAAUUAAGAAUAUAUCAAUUUUAGGUGUUAUAGGGGUGUUUUAACCUUCCCUAUGUGUAAUCGACUACUGAAACUUUUUUAUUCUUUAGAAUUCAACACAUACCUCAAAAUUUUCUUUUUAAAAGAUUUUUAAAAUCUCUUUAUAAAAGAUUAUCACACUUAACAAAGAUGAUCAGUGACUACUUUUCUUUAAUAAAAUAUUAUGUUUUUGCAGAGACCAAAAUUUUCAUAUUUUUCAAGAAUUCCUCAAUCUAAUUUUCUUUUUGAAUUUUUAUUUUCAAGAGGAAAAUGAUCCCUACAAUUAAUAUUUAUUUUCCUUAUUUUUAAUUUCUUUUUAAGGGAGAUGAAUAGUGGAAUGAUAAUUUUUAGUUAUGGUAAAGUAAAUUUAAUUAUCCACAACCUUCAACUAUUAAUUUUUUCGAUUUAAUUACACAAUUUUUUGAAAUUAACACUCUUUUAUUAGUUGUCGCUAGGUGAUGGACGAAAAGUUGAUUUGGACUUUUUGUUGACCUAAUAACAAAUUUAGAUAUUCAAAGUUUACUUAUUCUAUCAAUUUAAUGCUAAAUUUAAAAAAUUCAACAAAUCCUAUCAAAAAACAAUUGGACCUUGAGUACACAGGCUGUGAGAUUUUCACAUGGCUGUGUCUACACUGCACUCUAUUUUAUCAAAUUCGGACAAAGAGUUACACAGGCUGUUCACACGGGCAUGUGCCUCCUUCACAUGGGGCGUGUAGACCUCCACACAACUUAGGAACUUCCACAUGGCUGGGGCACACGGUCAUGUGGCCUUGUUUUGUAGAUUUUUGUUCUGUGUUAGAUUUUGACUCGUUUUGUGCCUGUGUGUAUUCUGACCUCAGUUAAGACUUAGUAAGAAUGUUUAGGACUCUGAUUAGUUCGAAUUUGUGCAUUUGUUUGUAACUAAUGUGUUAAUUUAUUAGUUUGAUUAAAUGUUAUGUGAUGUUAUUAGUAAAUAGUUACAAACCUAAUUGAUUCUAAAUCUGAUUGAUUGAACUUGUGUGUUUCGUUUUCUGUAUGGAUGUUUGUAUGUUGUGUGCAUUUUGCAAUAGCAUAAAAAUUUUACUAUUGAUUGACUGAAUAUGAACUUCUAUAUCUGUGACACUAUUAGUGUUUGAUGUGCAUUCAUACAUAUGCAUAAAAUUAGGGUUUUGGUUAUGAAGAGAAGGGAGCCUGUUUCGGUAGUUCAACUGUAAUAUUUCUGAACAGCAGUUUACCGCAUGAUUCUAUAUAUAUGUCAGCUUAGCUGCAUAUUAUGAUUUCGAGUGGCUUAUUUUCCUUAUUGUAGUGUGUAGGGUGGAUGAACCUUUUAUAGUUCUUGUAAUAGGCCCAAUUUGUAUGGGCCCAAAAAAAUAAGUUACAAACCCAAAAUAAACAUUACAAGCCCAAAAAUUAAAAAAAAAACUAACGGCCCAAGUGGCCCAAAACCUAACCCUCUUUAGUCGCCACUUCUCUCACGCGAGCCAACCUCCUCACGCGUGCCACCACGUCAGCACCUCCGUACCCUCCACGCUCUCUCUCUCUGCCACCAUAGCAUGCGUCCUUGCCCGGUACUUGCAGACCAAGCAAAAGAGAGCACAACAGUAAAGAGAAAAACAUUGUAUUUUUCGGCUAUAAAAGCCAUGAACAAAUCAAUGUAAAUUUUUUACGACAAAAAUAAAUACAAAAAAGGCAAUUGGAAACAAAAAAAAGGUGGUUCUUUUUUUGUUUUUAUUUCUUUUCUACUUAUAUUUCUACUAGUUUUUAAGAAAAAUAAAAAAGAAUGGAGUCGAAUCUUACCCUUUUCUCGCAUGUGCGCCGUCGUGGGGGGUCGAGGUUCGUCUUUUCCAAUGAAAAAUGACAUUUUUUGAGUUGAGGAAGUCGAAAAGUCAAAAAAUGGCCUUUUUUCGAUUUUUUGGCCACCGUGGAUGGCGGCGCCGUCACCGACGACCGACGGCCGCCACGACGGUCCGUCGGUUGGAGCCAUGGCCGGAGAGGGGAGUUGGGAGAAAGGGGGAGAGUGAUUUGAGUGUUUUUUUUUCAGAGAAUGGGGAGAAAUGAAAAAUUAAAAAAAAAGGUUUUUAUAGAGGAUUGAAAUGGCAUCGUUUUGGGCCUUAACCCCAGUGGCCAAAACGACGUCGUUUCACCCCUUUAAUCUGCGCGUGGACCCGACCCGCAAGAGGAUCCGUGUGUUUUUGUGGAAGGGUCUAUUUGCGUGUUAGACCCUUCCACAUUUUUCAAUUGUCUUAAUCCAGUCCUUUUUUAUUUUCUAAUUUGUACUUCAAAUUUUAUUUUAUUUUUGAUUUGGUCCUAGCAAAACGGCGCGUUUCAGAGGGCGGGGAUAUUUCCCCAAUUGGUCCCUCUUAGUUAUUCGCGCCUUUCAAAUGGGUCCUCUACCUUAUUUUCAUUCUCGAUUUUUACCCAGUUUUCUGAUUAAACUUCAAUUUAGUCCUUCUGCAUCUAUUUUAUUAUAAUUUUAGCCCCUCUUAUAUUCAUAAACUUAUUUUAUUAGGAUUUGGACUCUUAAUUUUAUUUCAAUGUCAAUUUAAUCCCCUUUUAUCUCAGUCUAGGUUUUAUUUUCUUUUUUUUUGUUGUGCUUUAUUUAUUUUAUUUAUUUGCUUACCAUUUCUUUUUUUAUUUUGAUUUUCGUAUUUAAUGAUGCUUUUACUUUAUUUAUUUUAUUCUUGACUUUCAUUGUUAUUGUUGUUGUUGUUGUUGUUAUUUUUAUGGUUUUUUAUUAUUUCAUUUAUUUACAUAUUUUAUUCCAAAUUGUUGCUUUAAAUUUUGUUUACAUUUUAAUUCGGUUCUUUACUUUCAAUAUUUUUUUAUAAACUAUUUUCCCUUACAUUAUUUAUGUAUUUAUUUUAUUUGUUUUUUUUAAAGUUGGUAUUGUCCUUUUAUGUGCAUACUUUGACAUUAUUACCAUUGUUAUUAUUUAUUUUAUUUAUCUUUUGAUUAUUCAUAUUAAUGUUAAAGUAGUGUAUAUUAUAUGAUUCUCGUAAAUUGUCUUUAUUAUAUUCAUUAUUGUUAUUUAUUAAUGCAACAUUUCAUUCAUGUAUUAUUUUAAAUAUUACACAUUUUUACCCAAAUUUGUAAAAAAAUAUAAAAAUUAGAAAAUAAGCAAUAUUUCGUAUUUUGGAAUUUGAAAAGUCGUUCCCUAACUUACGGGGUUUCAAUUUUUUUGAUAAAUCCAAAUAUACGAGCUAUUUUUCAAAAACACAUUUUUAAAAUUAUCUCGAGAAUUAAAAAGAUCGUUUUUCAACUUUUGGAAUAUGAUUUCUUUUCUAAAACUGAGAUAAUAAAAAUUUUCUAAAAAUAAAUAAAAUUUUUGGUGUUUAUUCUCGUUUUGAGAUUUAAGGUUAUGUCCUAACUCACAGGGUAUAAUUCUUUUUCUCGGUUGACAUAAAAUAUGCCCUUUUUAAAAUUCUUUUAGGUAAUUUUAAUAAAAGGAUCGUAUUUUAAGUCUCUUCAAAAUUUUCAACUUUCGACAUUAAGACAUUAAUUAAUCAAUUAGGUAUCAAUUUUGGGCGUGACGAGGGUGCUAAUCCUUCAUCGCACGUAACCGACUCCCGAUCCAUUUUUCUCGAAUUUCGUAGAUCAAAAUCAUUGUUUUAGUAAAAUCGAAACGUUUUGUUAAAAAGAUUGAAUUGCAAGGUGAUCCGAUCACACCAAAAAAAAAUAUCGGUGGCAACUACAGUUUUUUUCGUUUUUAUUUUUAUAAUAAAAGUCGACCCCUUUUUUAUUAAAAAAUGGCUUCGAUAGUUCUAUGUGGUGUGAGGGUAGACGGGCCUUCUAUAGCCCUAAUGUGGUGUGCAGGGUGGUCGAAGUGGUGUUCAAAUGGUUGGGUGGGUUUUUAACUUAUUGCAUACGGUUUGCAUUAGGCAUAUGUGUCUGAUUAUGAUUCUUUUUAAAAUUAUUUGCAAAUGUUUGUACUAAUUUGAUUAUUACAUGUGUUAGAGACAUUGCUUAUGCAGUUUGAUACUAUAUAUUGACUUAUUGAUGUAAGAUUUUCGUAAGUGACCAUCAUAUAGUGCUUGUCUGAAAUAUUUAUGGAGUUAUCCCCUCUUUUACCGACUGUUGUGUUUUGGACUCACACUGAGCUCGCGUAGCUUACCACCUUAGUUUUCUCCCUUUUAGAUACUCUCGUGUUCUGUAGCUAGACUCGACAUAUUAGAAGGCUCAGACGGAAGAGGUGAGAUUUGAUUUAAUAAAGUGUUUCAAUUCAAUUUUAGUUUUUCUAACUUCUUGGGACUAUAAGUGUUAAUAGGGACUGUAGUAUAAGUUUUACUUCUGGAUUUUCGUAAAUUUUUAUUUUGGGACUGAACUUUUGAAAUUGUGGAAUUAUACUUUCUAUUGUUUUUAACGUAAUUUAAAAUCUUUGUUUGAAUCCUGAAUGGUUAAACGACUUAGUUUGAUUUUAGCAAAAAUGAGUUAUAAAUGAGAUGUUAACAAUUCAUUUUGUAAAAUUAUUUUUAGAUCACUUCGGUGUUCAAAGUAACCUCUGAGAUUCGAUCCAUACUUCUAGGCCGAGUUUUGGGGUGUUACAUUAGUUUUCAAGAGGAGAUUGGUGAUCUACUUGAAGAUAGAUUGAUUUUGAAAACUUUGACUCCUUUUUGCUUUGAGAGUUGAUUUGAAGAGAAAAGAGCUUGAAGGUGCUUUUGUAGAAUCAGGACAAAUUUUAAAAUAAGGAGUAAAUUGGAAAAAAAGGGUUUUGGGUUGGGCUAAUUUUAAAAUUUGACACUUUCGUGGGAUAAAAAUAGAAAAAUAUUUUGGUUGAAUACACACAAGGAGUUACGAACUUGAGACCUAUCGAUAGACUAAGGCCUUAGUACUGAACCAACAAGCUCAUUCUUAUUAUCAUUUAACACAAAUAAAUUUUAAGGCAUACUAAGGGCUUGUUUAGCAUUGCUGUGAAGAAGCACUUUUGGCCUAAAAAACACUUUUGAGAGAAAAGUUGUUCUAAGCUAGUAACCUUUGGCUAAGAUUUUGGCUUUUCAAAAGCACUUUUCGCCUAAUGGAGAAGCUAAAAUUUUUAGCUUUUCUUACCCAAAAGCACUUUUGAGUGCUUAAUUACUAAUACAUCCCUCCAAGAACACAUUUUAAAAUAAAAUAAUACAAAUAUUUUAAUAUUUAAUUACAAAUAUUUAAUGGUUAUAUUUAAAUAUUUAAAAUAUAAUUUAUAUAUUCUAAUUAAAUUUUAUAAAUUAUUAAUAUUUGUUGCUUAAAAAUAUUUAAAAUUUAUAUUUUAUAUAUUAAAAUAUUAACAACAAAUUAUAAUAAAUUAUUUUUAUAUUCUUACUAAAAUAUCAUAAUAUUAAUUAAUUUUAAUAUUAUUUAAAUGCAUAUUUGUUACUUUAUAAUAUCAUGUCUAAAAUUGACGUUUUAUUUCUUAAAAGCACUUUUUGACAUUAAUACUAAACACUUAAAUCUUAAACUAAACUUCUCAAAGAUACUUUUCUACAACACUUUUUAAAAACACUUUCCAAAAUCAAUGCUCAACUAUCUCAAACUCUCUUACCUUAUACUUUAAAAGAGAAAAAAAAGAUUUUAAAUUUUAUCCCUAUUUCUUUUAAUCCAAUUUUUAUCCCAGGUAAAAGUUUUUAUGGAGAGGAUCAUGUAAAAUUAUGAUUUGAAUAAUUUUAAACAUUUCAUCAUUGCAAAAAUGAAAUAAUAGAAAAGAAUGACUAUUCGAAUUUGCAUUUGUGUUCUUUCUUUCAAUAUUUGCUUUCAAAACUGUGGGAAAAUAUUAAAUUUGAUGAAAUUUUAAAAUUGCACUUCAGUAAAAUAUAAAUUUUAUGAAUUUGGACUAGCCAUUUUAUUUAUAAUUUUCUGUGUUUUUCUUCUUUGCUGACUUUUUUAAUGUCAUUUUCUAUCAUGAAAGAAAGUUAAAGAUUCACUAUUUAUUUCUCAACCACUAUGAAAUUACUUGACUAUGGGGGUAGAAUUUUCUCACCAAUUUUCUAACAUGAGAUUUUUUGAAUGAGACAAAUAUUCAAUUUUAACACAAACAUAUCUUUAGUUAUUGAGUCACCCCUAUUUGUGAGUGAUUUGGGGAUAAAAGCUUAAACAUUUCUGGAUCACAUUGCAUUUAAGAUGGGUGUUAGGAGUCAUAUGAUAUUUUUUCAUAGACCGACAUUUCUAUAAAGAAUCCUUGCUUUACUUUGGGUAGAUUCUUCCAAUUAGCGUGGUCGUUGGUAUUACUCUCCAACAAUUAUUGUACUGUCAUCCUUAUUCCUACUCCUCCUAGCAGAGAAGUUUCAUAAGUGUUUUAUUUCAAGGGAGUCAGCACUUAGCAACCCCUUGGGGGAUUCAGCACUUAGCAACCCCUUUUAUAUUCAAUGUACUCCGGCUUAUUCCGAGUGUUCAACCGGAAAUCUUGUUUGCAAUAUUUUACCAUUUUUUCCAACUUAACCACAUUUUUAGGAUCUAUGGCAAGUAUUUAUUCUACGUUCAAUUAAAUCUCCUCAUAUAAUGAAUAAUAUCAAAAUAAUGCAUUAAUUCACAUGUUUACUUACCUUGGUGCAAAAUAUUGUAAUUUUGCAAUUUACUCCACAAUUUUCUCUUUUCCCCGAUUGAGGUUGUCUCCUCGUCUUUCUUGAUCUAUAAUAGCAAUUUUAGCUUAUUUAAUAUUCACAUUUAUUAAAACAAUCCUCGACUCACAUUUAUUAAACUUGCUAUUUAAUAUUCACAUUUAUUAAAACAAUCCUCGACUCAACUUUUUACAAAAUUAUGAUUUUGCCCCCAAACUUUUGCAUAUUUACACUUUUGUCCCCAAGCUCGAAAAUUAAAUUCCACUCCUUAUUCUUAUGUUUUACAACAUGCUGAAUACUUUUCCCUUCUAUGGCAACAUCAAAUUCUCACUCUAACAUACACUCAUGAACAUUAAAUAUUUUUACCGAUUAUGUCAAUUUACCCGUUUCUACUUAAAAUUGCUUAGUAAAAGUUGUUUAACAUAAUUCUAGCUCCAUAUUCUACCAUAAAACAGUAAAAUAAACACAUUUCACCUAUGACUAUUUUUCCAAAUAUGAACCCUAGGUUAAAUUAUGUGUUUUGUUCUUCCAAAUGUGUUUUGUUACGAAAUUGAAAACCAAAAUUUAUGUAAAUUUGUCAUGAUUCCUCAAUAGAAAAAUCUGUAAAUUAUCAAAACGUAAAUGUGAACAUAUUAAUUAUUAACUUAAAAAAAACCUAGUCUUGUACAAUCAAAAUUCAAAAAUCAUUUGCCUUGUAAAACUUGUAAUUUUCAUUAAAAUUUUUGCAGCGAAAACUUUUUAUUUAGCCUAUUGAGCAUAUUUUUAAAUUUACGUUUUUAACUUUCGUAAAAUCCCAAUUUGUAUUUUUGUGGUGGAAAAUUUUAUAAUUUUGAAAACCUAGCCUUGAUUGUUGGUUAACACAAAUCAUGCAGAAAAAAAAAACCUUUAACUAAGCCAAAGAAAUCCAAAGCCAAAUUAAAUCGGAGAAAUUCAACCAAAAGCCAAAAGUCCAGUAAAUCAAUUUAUUAACCAGAGCAAACAUUUAAUGAAAGAAUCAAUCCGAGACCCCGCAAAUUCUAACUUUCCGAUUACCUGAAACAUCAUAAAUAAAAUAAAGGGGAGAGCUAUAAAGCUCAGUGCAUAACUAAAACAGAAGCUGAGAUCACAUACAAUACAAUAUACAAAUCAUAAAAUCAUAGAAAAUUUCAUAACAAACAGUCAAACAGAAUUGAGUAUACAUGAUUAUGCCAAUGCGGUAUUUUUCAGAAAAUCUUAAUGCAAAUUUUUCAGAAAACGUCCUACCCAAAUCCUCUACACACUUGAAUAGAGUUCUCCAGAACUUAUCCAUAAAAAAAACACACCAAUUAAGUCAUCCCAGGUUGCCCAAAAACGAUGACUCACCACCAUGGGAUGCCCGACAACGAUGGCUUAUCAAUAUGUAAUUAAACUGUUAGAUCAGAUAUUUGUGGUCAAGCCAUUGAAUUGCAUCUCAGCUACUUAAACAAAAAUAUGUAGUGAAGCCACUAUAUUGUAUCCAAGUUGCCAAAUAAAAAUAUGUGGAUAAACCACCAGAUAGUGCAGACCAUUAAACUACCAAAACUUCCUCCCUGCCAUAUUAUCCCAACCCCAUGCAAUGUGACAUGACAUGCAUUUACAUAAUCAAAACGACAAGCAUGUAAGACAUGUAGUCGUACCAUAACACAAUUUAGCAAGCAUGGCAUUCCACUCUUUUACAGAACAGAUGUAUCAGAAAUUCAACAUAAGCAAGUUGGUAUGCUAUAAAGUCACAUGCAUGAUCACAUAGCAGAAUCAGAAACAUAAAAAUAACGUAACCAAACCUCAUAUACACAAAUACAAACAUAACAAUACAAAUCAUGCUACCAGAUUCAUUAGAAAACAGUUCAUGCACACUAAUUUCACAUACCUUAUUCAUAUCACCUACAAUAUCAAAUUAUCAGAUAUUACAUUUUCAAAGUCAAUUUUACACAGUACGAACCCUACAAAGUGGCUAAACAUGAUUCACGAAUCAAAAGGGGCCUAAACGAAAAUUUUUAAAAGAUGGGCCAAUAUGGCCCAAUUAGCCUAGGCCGUAUGGCGUCGACAGUCCAAUUUUUGACUUUCAGCUGUUCAUUAUUUUUUGACUUUUUUGAUAUACACCUUACUAUUUUCCGAAGCAAAAUCAUGGCAAGAAUUCCAAAACUUAAAAUCCAUAUUCAACCCACUCAAAUUAGUAAUGAAACCCAAAACUAAAUCAUUAAACAACCAAAACUGCUACCAAUAAACCUUAUCAAACCAGGAAUCAACCUUUUGGCAUCUGACUACUAACCCAAAAUAGUAGCAGUAGUACUAAAAAUCUCUCAAUUCAUCGGAAGACUAUUUGUUACAGAAACGUCACCUAAACCAAAGAUUUCAGAGUAAUCAAAAUCGCGUCACACAAAGAAGGAAACAAAUUAACCCUAAAAUCGUGAAACUCAACAAAAUACGAAUCUUUUCACAUAUUCCUUACCACCAACCGUCAAGAUUGGUCAAAAACCACUAAUGACACCGACCAUCGCAAGGUUAAAUUGAAACCAAAAGGCAACUAAAGAUGGAACAAAGGUUGUUAUAAAAAAAAUUAACAAAGACUUAUUGCAGCAAAAAUGGCAAAAAAUCAAGAAUAGGGAGAUUGGAAAAAAAUAAUGAAACGGCAAAGAGAAGGAGUGGGAAAGUGACGGCAGUUUGUGGAGAGAUUUUGGGUAAAUAAAAAGUAACUCACCACUCAACCCAUUAAAUCUGAUUACCCUCUAGACAGAUUCCCUUAGAGUUUAAAUUCAACCCAAAUACCGCUACAUGGGCGGCAUAGUGUAAGGAAAUAAAAAUAUUUCUACUUUGCACACACGCGGUCUUGAACACGAAGCCUUAGGGUAAUUUGAAGCCUUACCACUAAAUUAGUAGGCUCAUCCUUGAAAUUAAUUGAACGAAAAUAUUAUUUAUGUCAGAUGAUCAGGGAUAGAGGUUAAGACCAAAGAUGACAAAAAUUCAAAGGAAAGAUUUAAACCUAGAACCUCACACACACAAGCAUAACACCUAUCCACUGAACCAUAUUUACUCCACUGACAUAAUUUUCACAAUAUUAACUAAAAAUUCAGAAUAUGGUCACUCUUGGUUUCACUUACCUAAUUUCUUCUAACCUGAUUUUUGUGAUGUGACAACUCUCCCAUCCUUAAAAGAAUUUCAUCCUCGAAAUUCCUAUUAUGACACCAUACACUUAACUACAAAAUCUAAAAUUCCCUAGUCCAAACCAACCACCAGGCUAUCAUUGUACAACUCUAAUCUCCAUUCAAGUCUGAUCCAGACAAUAUUUCAGAGGAAUUUCCUAUUCACUACCUCGAAUUACCUCAAUAAGCUUUCCACAGAAACAUCACUAAUGAUCCUUUACCCCAGACUCUAAAAAAAUCACUUACCACAAAAUACAGGUACAAACAAUUCUUAUCAAUGCAUAGUACAUUUGGAACAUAUCAUAAAAGUACCUGUAUCAUUGUCAAAUGCAUCACGGCUCGCUUGAUACCUAGUUGCAUAUCCCCAUCUCAAAUUUUGUUUUUAUGUCGAAGCUUGUACCCGUAAAAUAGUGUCAUGAGCAAUCCCAAACUCGAUGCUCAACUGACCUACAUCUAAAACACGCUCUCAUUUUCCUCCAACAAUCGUCCGAAUGGUGCCUAUCACAGUAAGUAUAAAUCAGAAGCUCAACCGCAUUCACAAUUGCCUCACCCCGCUGAAGCCUGUCUAUUUUAGCCCGUUUCCUUGGUCAUGGAUUCAAGUCAAUAGAACCAUCACUCAUCUUAUUUUGCACUUUAUUCAUUACUUAUUCUCUCCCUUGGAGCAAUUACUCUCUACCGCUAACUUGACUUGAUACGCUUGAGGUCACUCAAUCACAGACUCUUGUCUCAUACAUCCAAAUUGGGUUCCAUCGAUCCUUUGCAAAUCUCUAAACACCUCUUGGAACACUGAAACGUCCCCUACUUCUAAACUGCCCUCAGAUUUGGGCGUCAUAGCAAACUUAUUUAUUUUCAAAUUGGGCUUACUGCCCCGAGAAGAGAACUCAACUCGAGUCACCCAGCUACGUCCACCACGCCCUCGCACAUCAUGACCUCGAGUACUCAUUAUACUAAUCUACAGUUUGCGAAAUUUUAUGAAUUAGCUUAGGUUUAUUAAAAAUUAUAAGUCUAGAGUUUUAUCAAAGUUUCUUACAUAAUUACCAUAGUCUUUAGCUAGAGUAGAGUAAUCCUAGCACUUAAGUUUUGUUAGUUUGUCUAGUAUAGCUAAAGUAAAGAUACUUACAGGAUCGACGAUGUAGUUUUGGAUUCUUUUUGAUAGAAUCAAAUAUAAAAAUAAUCAAAAUCUAAAUACCCAUUUUAGAAACCCAAAGUAUAAUAAUUAAUCAAAAAUUCAAUUUAUUUAAAGCAUAUUUAAUGGAGAUUUUCAAACCCAGAAAUCAUAGCCUGAGUUUUGUUACCUUGCUCUGAUACCACUAAAUGUAACACCCAAAACUUGGCUUAGACAUUAUGGCCAAAUCUGGAAGGUUACAUUAGUACGAAAAAAAUGAUUUUUCCAAAGUGUGGUUUGUUACGAAAUUGAAAACCAAAGUUUAUGUAAGUUUGUCAUGAUUCCCCGAUAGGAAAAUUUGUAAAUUAUCAAAACGUAAAUGUGAACAUAUUAAUUAUUAACUUAAAAAAAACCUAGCCUUAUACAAUCAAAAUGCUAAAAUCAUUUGCUUUAUAAAACUUGUAAUUUUGACUAAAAUUUUUGCAACGAAAAUUCCAAACUAAUAUUCGUAAAUUGUAAUUUUGUCAAGUAAAAACGUUUUAUUUAGCCGAUUAGGCAUAUUUUAAAUUUACGUUAUUAAAUUUUGUAAAAUCUCAAUUCGUAUUUUUGUGGCAAAAAAAUCUUGGCUCGUAUAAUUUUGAAAACCCAACAUUGAUUGUUCAGUAACACAAAACAUACAGAACAAAAGACUUUAACUAAGCCAAAGAAACCCAAAGAAAAAUUAAAUUUGAGAAAUUAAACCAAAAUCCAAAAGUCCAAUAAAUCCAUUUAUUAACCAGAGUAAACCAUUUAAUUAGAGAAUCAAUUCGAGCUUCCACACACUGCCCGAUUCUAAGUUAUCGAUUAUUUGAAACAUCAAAAAUAAAACAAAUGGGUGAGCUAUAAAGCUUGGUGCAUAACUAAAACUCAAGCCGAGAUCACACACAAUACAAUAUACAAAUCAUAAAAUCAUAGGAAAUUUCAUAACAAUCAGUCAAACAAAAUUGAGCAUACAUGAUUAUGCCAAUGCGGUAGUUUUCAGAAAAUCAUAAUGCAAAUUUUUUCAGAAAACAUCCUACCCAACACCACCACACACCCAAAUAUAGUUUCCCAAAACUCGUCCAUCUAAAAACACACCAAUUAAGUCAUCUCAGGUCGCCCGAAAGCGAUAACCUACAACCUCGAGUUAGUCGGCAAUGAUGACUUAUCAAUUUGCAGUUAAACUACUAGAUCAGAUAUUUGUGGUCAAGCGAUUGUACUGCAACUCAGCUGCCAGAUUAAAUGUUCCUAGUGUAGUCCCUAACAUUAUCAGGUGUUCUCGGCUCAGUCCUUUGGACAUUAAAAAAAAUAGAUUUGGAUAUGCAAUUAAUCAUAAAUUGCCAGGUGGUAUAUGUUAAAGUUACGAUAACAUCAUCAUCAAGAAAAAAACCAAAAAAAUCUUUAAAAAAUUUCAUAAAAUUCAAAUAAACUUAUAUAAAAUUAACUACAUUAUAAAUAUAUAAUUGUUAAAAAAUAAAAAUUCUUAAUUAUUUUAAAAUUUGUAAAAAAUAAUAAAAUUAUUAGAAAUUGUUAAAUAUUGUAGAAACAUUAUAAAAAUUAUUAGAAUCAUAAAAGACGGUAAAAAAUAAAAAGUUAAAAUACUAGUAAAAAUUGUCUAACUUGAAAUAAAGUAUACAUUUGGUAAUCAAAUUUAAAAUAUUGAAAAUUUAAUAUUAAAGUUGUAUAAUUUUUAUAAAAAAUAUUUUAAAAUAUUUUAAUAAAAAUUGAAUAAAUUUUAUAUCUAUUUUUUAAUAUUUUAAAAUACAUCAAUUUUCAGUACUUUACCAACGUUACUGGCAACAAGUUUUUUCGACUUGACUCCCUAUUUAUUGUCUUAAGUAGCUUCCUGCAUCCACCAUUUUGCACAUGGUUUUUCUAUUUUAUACCAAAGCUCUUUAGAAUAGUUAAACAUUCGACAAUAGUUCUUAAGAUAUUAGUUUAGAGACAAAUAAUUAUCUUGAGAUAGUAAAAAAAAAAGAAAUAAUUAAAUAUAUUAUUUACUUGAAAUAAUAUUAUUUUUCAUUAUUUAAAUUAUUUGAGAAAAAAACUUAUUCAAGUUUAUCACGUAAAAAGAUCUACCAAUUAUAAAUUUUGAUUAGUUGAACCAUAAGACAAUUGUUAUAGGUAGUAUCAUUCCAAGAGACAAUUAUCACAUGUUCAAACUCUAGUUAAUGUGAUUUAUAAAAUUUUAAAAAUAUUAAAAUAUCUAAUAUAUUUUUGAAAUUUAUGUAAAUUUUUAUAUUUUACACAGUUUUUUUUUCUAUUUUUAAAUAAUUUUGAUAAUUUUUCUUUUAUAAUUUUUGUCAUUUUUGAAGAUUCUUUAAGGGUUUUUGUUGAUGAUUUCAUUAUGAUAUCAUCAUACGACAUGUGGUAGUAUAUGAUUUGUUGAAUAUUCCAAAGAAUUUUUUAUUGACCAAUGAACUAAACUAAAAAUUUUUAAUAACAUUAGGGACUGAAGUGGAUAAAAAUAUUUUAAAAACUAAAGUUAAAAAAGUGAUAUACUUGCAUUAACAUUUUCUAAAAGAUGGAAGUGUUUUUCUGUUUUAAGGGAAUAGAAUUUUUUUGAGUGAAUAUAGUUUUGUGAGGGAGUAGUGAUAUUAUUAUUAGAGACAAGGCAUUUGAUUUUUAUAUAACUUUUUAAUUAAGUCAAUAUCACUCAUCGAGUAAAACCCAACAUAUUAAGCACAUUAUUAUACUAAUUUAGAUUAAUAGGAAUCAUCAAAUUUACAAUUAAGGAUUAUAAAUUUAUUUAAUUCCAAUCUUCUACCUUUUCUAAAUUAUAAGAAUGGUUUUGCCUUAUAUUUUCUUCAAAUUGAGAUUUAAUUUAUAAUUUUAAUUUUGAUAUAAUUUAGUUUAUCAAUUUUUAUAAUGCAAUUAAUUAGUUAAUACUUUAUUUUAAUCAAAAUAAUUAUAUUAAUUUUAAAGAAUUAUUAUCACCGUUAAAAUUCUUUACUAACAAUGAUUUAAAAUUAAGUUCUAUUGCUUUUGUUUUAGAUUACACAUAAAUGUUUACAAUAUGAAAUUCUUUAUAAUUUUCAAUACAUAUUACUUAAAUAAAUAGAAAAUAGAGUUUUAAUAAUGCACAACCAAAUAAAUUUUAGGGUAAACGACCAAAAUAGUCACUUUUGUUUGCCUUAGGUUACAUUUUAGUCACUUAUGUUUGAAAUGUUACGUUUUAGUCACUUACGUUAUCGUGUUGUAACAUUUUAGUCACUGAGUCAUUAAUUGUCGACAAUGGUGUAAUGGUAAGUUGAUGUGGCACGUUAAAUCAUCAUUUCAAACGAAAUUUUUAGGUUAAAUUCUACAAUUGGUCCCUAUAUUUUUCAUUUUCAACAAUUUAAAAAAUUUCUUUUAUGUUCUUCUAACUUUUUUUUUUCCAUUCUCUUAUGCUUCUCCCUCUAUUUUCCUCCCUUCUUCAUUUCUUUUAACAUAGUUUUUCUAUGAUUUCCAUUUGUAACUAGUCCACAAGCUCGCCUCACUCGAAAAAAUUAAAUUGUUCAAAAAAUAAAACAUAGAAUAACUACGUUGAAAGAAAUGGAGAAGGGAGGAAAACAAAGGGAGAAACAUAAGAGAAUGGAAAAGAAAGAAAGUUAAAAAAACAUAAAAGAAAAAAUUAAAUUGCUCCAAACGAAAAAAUAUGGGGACCGAUUGUAUAAAUUAACCUAGAAUUUUUGUUUGAAAUGAUGAUUUAACGUGCCACAUCAGUUUACUGUUACACCGUUAAUAGAAACUAACGGCUCAGUGACUAAAAUGUUACAACGUGAUAACAUAAGUGACUAAAACGUAACAUUUCAAACAUAAGUGACUAAAAUGUAACCUGUGCCAAACAAAAGUGACUAUUUUGGUAGUUUACCCUAAAUUUUAUUGAUGUUCUAUUAUUUUGAUUUCUUAGACUUGUAUAUAGGGAAAAUAAAGGACUAUUGCCAUUUAAUUGCUUUAAAACAAUUUUAAUGAGCUCUAGUCAUGCAAGAUUACCAUUAAAUAGAAUACUCAUAUAGAAGGAUUUACUAUUUUUGUUUCUCAAAUCACAACUAAUAAUUGUUCAUAAUUUCUUAUUUAGUGUCAUUUUUAAGAUUUAUUAGAUGACAAUUUUUCAUGCCAAAGUUUUAUUUUUAUUUCAUUUAAAGUUUUACAAUAUUUAAAAAAUUAUAUAUUUUGUAAAUUUGACAUUUAAUCAAUUUUAGAUCUAAAAAGUAAUAAUGAUUUCAACCCAAGGCCUGAGCUAGGAAUAGUUUUAGUUUGGAGUACUAUAUAUAUAUAUAUAUACUAAAAGAUGCAAUUUUUAUAAAUAACUUACAAAUCUAUCAUUAAAUCAAAUACUGGUAUGAAAUGGUUUAAUUAUUUGAUCACAUUUUUCCAUGACAAAAUUUUAUUUUUAUAUGAUUUAAAAUUUUACAAUUUUUAUAUUGUGAAUUUGGUGUACUAAAAGAUGUAAUUUUACAGGUAAUUUUAAUACCCAUCACCAGUGCUGCAAAGCUUGAGAUUCUUUUAUUGUGGGGAAAUAAACUUAGUGGAAACAUUCCCAACUCUAUCUCCAAUGCUUCCAUGCUUAAGAAACUAGACUUGGCAGAUAACUUAUUCUCUGGCCCAAUCCCUAAAACUUUUGACAACUUAAGACACGUUGAAUGGUUCCAAAUUUCAAACAAUAAUUUGAUCAAAAGACCUGCUACUGAUCAUGAGUGGACCUUUCUUUCUUCUUUGGCAAAUUGCAAGCAUUUGAGAAUAAUAGAUGUUUCAAGAAAUCCAUUGAGUGACGUUCUUCCAACUUAUAUUGGGAACCUUUCAAAAUCCCUUCAAUACUUUUAUGCAUCUAAUUGUGAGAUUACAGACAAUAUUCCUAUGUAAAUAGGUAGCUUAAGCAACCUAUUACUUUUACAACUUGGCUAUAAUAAAUUAAGCUUUAUUCCAACACCGAUAGGAGGACUGCAAAAUUUGCAAGGUUUACAACUUUCCUCUAAUAAAUUAGAGGGGCCUAUAUCAGAAAGCCUUUGUGGUUUGGAGAGAUUAUACUACUUGUAUUUAAGGCUGAUUAGGUUGCAUGGAUCCAUACCCUCUUGUUUGGGUAAUAUUUCUUCUUUGAGAUAUCUUUACUUAGAUUCCAACACAUUGAGUUCUACAAUACCCUCAACUUUGUGGAAUCUUAAAGAUAUCUUAGAAAUAGAUUUAUCAUCAAACCAUCUUUACAAUUCACAUGCUAUAUUGAUGUUGGAGAUUUGAGGAGUCUACUAAAACUAAAUUUAUCAAGGAAUCUUCUCAUGGGCAAUAUCUUCUCCACAUUUAGGGGUCUUCAAAUUUUGAUUUCAUUAGAUUUAUUAAAUAAUAUACAACAUGGCCAUAUCCCUGGAUCAUUAGGUGGUUUGAUUAGUUUGGAAUUCUUGAAUUUAUGAAAUAACAAUCUCUCUCGAGCCAUUCCCAAAUCUUUGGAAAAGCUUUUAGAUCCAAAGUAUUUUAUUGCGUCUUUCAAUAGACUUGAAGGGGAAAUUCCCGCCAAAGGAUGUUUUUCAAACUUCUCUAGCACAUCAUUCAUGAAGAAUUUUGCACUUUGUGGUCCACCUAGAUUGCUAGUCCCACCUUGCAAAAACAAUAUCCAAGAAAACUCCCAAAUGAAUAUAUUGCAUGCUUUAAGGUAUGGUUUACCAACAGUUGGUAUUGUUGUAGUACUAAUAGUCUUAACUAUUGUAAUCACUGAAUUUUGUCCGGCUCGAUUUGGUUUUUUUUAAAAUUUUUUUUUAAAUACAAAAAAUAAAAAAUUGUAUUUUGACCCCUAAACUUUUUUUAAAAUUACAUUUUACCCCUAAACUUUCUCAAAAUUACAUUUUGACCUCUAAACUUUCUCAAAAUUAUGUUUCGACCCUAAUACUUUUCCUGCAUUUGCAGUUUAGUCCUUCUGGCAGCAACUUGCACACCUACCCCCGUGAUUUCCGGCCACUGGCCUAGGGCAUGGCCUCCCUCUCCCCUAGCCACCUAAUCCCUGCAAAAAGGAAGAAAAAACAGCUAUAAAAUGGGUUAAAAAACCCCAAAAAUCGGACCCCCCACGAAAAAAUAAAAAAAAAACUUGCAAAAAAGAGAAAAAGAAGAGGAAAAAGGAGAGAAAGAGAGGAGAAAGGAGAAGAAGAGGCCGGCCAUCGGCGAACCACUGGCAGCAGCACGAGCAGCGACGUCGACGGCGGCGAAGGAGACCGAACGGAGAAGAAGAAGGAGAAAAGAGAAGAAAAAGAGAAAGAAGAAAGGAAAAAGAAGAAGGAAGAAAAAGAAAAAAAGAAAAAAUAUUUUUUUUAACAGUCGGGUCAAACCGACCCGACCCAACUCUGACCCGAACACCGCGACCCGACCCGGCACCUGCAUACCCAGGCCAAGCCCAGCAGCCUAAAGAAAAAACAAAAAAAGAGGCAAAAGCAAAAAAAGAAAGAAAGAAAAGGAAACAGGCCAAAAACAGCCCAAGCGCAGGCCCAAACCAACGCCAGGCCCAACAGCAGGCCUAGCAGGCCAACCAACCCAACGCUAGGCCCAACAGCAGGCCUAGCAGGCCAGCCAGCCCAACGCCAGCAGCAGGCCCAAUAGCACAGGCCCAAAAGGCAGCAGGCCAAAAAAAAAGAAGAGAAAGAGAAAAAAAAAGAAAAAAGAAAAAAAGAGAAAUAAAAGAAAAAAAGAAAAAAAAAAGAAGAAAAAAGGGGUUUCAAUUUGAACAACCCGUUCGGCGAAGCUCGUGUUUUAGAUUUUUCGGUAAUUUUAUUUAUUUCUCUUUUAAUUUAAUGCUCGUAUUUUUAUGUUAUUUCAUUUUAAUAUUAUUAGCAUUUUAUGCAUUUUUUAUAUUUUUAUAUUUUUGUAUUUAUAUUUUCAAUUUAAUUCAAUUUUAAUUUUAUUUUAUUUUAAAUAAUUUUAAUAAAUAAGGCAACGGAUCGAUUUAUCAUAAAAUUGUUGAUUUCAUCGCUAUGUUGGGUGAAUAUCACCGGUUUGUGUUAAACUCGAUACGCUCUUUUAAAAAUAAAAAAUAUUCAAAAAAAUUGUAUUUUCAAAAAAAAAUCCUCGGGUUUCGAAAUUUGCGUGUCUUCAAAAUAAUUUCUCGUGUUUUCAAAAAUAAGGUAACGAAUCUAUUUGACACUAAUUCGUUGAUUUCAUUGCUAUGUUGAGUGAAUAUCACUGACUAGUGUUAAAUAUGAUACGUGCUUAAUAAAAAAAUCAGAAAAUUUUUCGUGUUUUCAAAAAUUUCCGUGUUUCAAAAAUUUUCAUGUUUUCAAAAAUUCUCGUGUUUUCAAAAAAAUUCCAAUUUUCAAAAUUUUUCGUGUUUUCUAAAAACUUCUGUGUUUCAAAAAUUUUCGUAUUUUAAAAAUUUUUGUGUUUCUAAAAUUUUCGUAUUUCAAAAAUUUUCUUGUUUUCAAAUUUUUCGUAUUUCAAAUAUCCUCGUGUUUUCAAAAAAUUUCGGUGUUUUGAAAAUUUUCUUGUUUUUCAAAAAAAUCUCGUGUUUCAUAAAUUUUUGUUUUUUUUUAAAUUGUGUUUCCAAAAUUCUCGUGUCUAAAAAAAAUUCUCGUGUUUUAAUCGGAUCAGGAUUAAAUAUUAAAUUGAACUCGUAUUUUUGAAAGUGAAGACAACUCGCAUUUAACGAGAUACCAAUUUCGGGCGUCGCGAGGGUGCUAAUACCUUCCUCGCGCGUAACCGACUCCCGAACUCUAAUUUUCUCUGGAUUUUCACGUAGACCAAAAAUUACCUCUUUUUUAGAAAAAUUUAAAAAAUAAAUUUUCCUUCUAAAAAGAGAAUUUAUUAGGUGUCCAAUCACACCUAGGAAAAAAAAGAUCGGUGGCGACUCCUUUUUCAAAUAAAAUCGAAACACCGUUUUCAAAUUUUCAACAAUCAUUUCGAUUAGCGCCCGUGCACGAAAUUUUUAGGUCGCUACAACUAUUAUGUAUAGAAGAUGCCAAAGUAGGAGUACAACUCUACCAAUUCAGGAUGAUUUGUUUUCUUUGAAAACGCUGAGUGGAAUUUCACAUGCUGAACUUUCACAAGCAACUAAUGGAUUUGAGGAAAACAAUAUGCUUGGUUCAAGGAGUUUUGGAUAUGUAUAUAAAGAAAGGCUUUCAGAUGGAAUGGAAGUUGCAAUAAAAGUUUUCAAUUUGCAAACAGAAGAAGCAUUUGGGAGCUUUGACAUUGAAUGUGAUGCUAUGCGAAAUAUAGAUCAUCAUAAUAUUGUGAAGGUCACUACUUACUGCUCAAGUGUUGACUUCAAAGCCUUGGUGCUUGAUACAUGUCUAAUGGAACUACAGAGAAAUGGUUAUAUUAUUAAAACUAUUUCCUUGAUAUCAUACAAAGGGUUGACAUAAUGAUAGAUGUUGCAUCAGCUAUAGAACAUCUCCACAACGGGCAUCCAACACCUAUAAUUCAUUGUGACUUAAAACCAAGCAAUAUUUUACUAGAUGAAGACAUAGUUGCACAUGUGGGAGAUUUUGGCGUUGCCAAAUUGUUGGGAGAAUGUGAUGUAAUGAAGCAGACCAUGACUCUUGCAACAAUCGGGUAUAUGGCACCAGGUGAAUUUUUUAUUUUUGUAUUAUUAUUUGUCUAAUAUGCAUUUUAUAUUUUGUUUCAUCUGUAUGUGGAUAUAUAUUUGAAUAAUCAUUUUAGAAAUAAUUAAAGAUUAAUGAUGCUCUAAUUUUACUUGAAAUGCAAAAUUUGGAUCAACGGGAAUUGUUUCUAUAAAAUGUGACAUCUAUAGUUAUGAGAUUGUCCUUAUACAAACUUUCACAAAGAAAAAGUCAACUGAUAAUUUUUUUGCUGAAUAAGUGACUAUAAAGCAUUGGAUGGGAAGUUCAUUGCCAAAGGAGCAUGAAAAUCCCCAAAACCUAAAUUCUUUCCUUCUAGCAAUGAAGAGAUGGUGAGGGGAAGGGGAAAAAAUCACGUUAAAUGAAAAGAAAAAGAAAAAGAACAAAAUUAAAUUUGACGUGAAAAUUAUUUUAAUACUUUUAAUUUGAGUUGGAAAGGUUGAUGAUGUAGCAUAAAAUAAUUGGAUAGGACCAUAUUUGAGGUAGUGGGUGUAACACCCCUUACCUGAGACCGUCGCCGGAAUCGAGUACGAGAUGUUAUCCAAUUUAACUUACCAAUUUGGAGCAUAAAAAUUUGCUUUGUAAAUUACUUUCACAAUUUACAGCAAAGCUGUCCACCUGCGCGACUGUCACUAAUUUAAUUAUAACUCGAGUUACGAAACUCGAAAUUUAAAUCCGUAAAUUUUCCAUGAAACUAGACUCAUAUUUCUACGUACCAUAAAAUUUUUAGAAUUUUUGACUUAUCCAAUUAGUACAGUUUAUUCAUUAAAGUAUCCCCUGUUUCACAACUUGACAGAUCUGACCUCUUGGCACUAAAAAUCAAUUAUCUCACUGUACAAAAUUCAUAUAAGGUUAUCAUUUAUUUCUCUUGAAAAUAGACUCACUAAGGAAUCUAGAAAUAUAAAUUAUGACCCAUAAUUCUUUCUGUACAAUUUAUAAUGAUUUUCUAAAGUCAGAACAGGGGACUUUAAAAACCAUUCUGACCCUGUCUCACUAAAAUUCAAAUAUCUCAAAAUAUACAAUUCCUUUGCCUACACCGUUUCUUUCAUAUAAAAAUAGACUUGAUAAGCUUUAAUUCCAUCUAUAAUUCACUCUCUAAUUCCAUUUAUACUAUUUAUGGUGAUUUUUCACAUUCACGUCACUGCUGCUGUCAAAAAAACUGCUUCUUUAUAUUAGUUCCAUUUACACAUACAUACCACCAAAACAUAAUCUCUACUAACCACUUCAAUAGCUAAUCUUAGCCAUAUCAUAUGAACAUACUCAAAAUGAUUAAGACUCUAUACAUGCCAUAGUUUAAACAUUUUGGAAAGCACACAAUACCGAGAUGAUUAUGAUAGUGUGAUACGAGCUCCGACGAUCCCCAAUUCGAUCAAGUUCAAAUCACUAUAAAACAAAGGAAAUAAGAAAAUGUGUAAGCUACAAUUAGCUUAGUAAGUUACAUGUAAAUAAUAGAUACUCAUUUAAUAAUUAACACUUUUAACUUAUAACUAAUCAAAACAUUUCUUGGCAAUUUCAAUCACUUACACAUGCACAAUCUUACCAUUUCACUUACAUAUACAUUUUCACACUUAACCUUUACCACUUUUGAUCAUUAUUUCAAUUGUACCUGCAUACACACUUCAUUUCAUAUUCACUUUAACACAUUAUUAAUCCCGUUGAACACUUGGAAUAUACACGGAUACAUAGAGAUUUAGCACAUAAGUGCCACACUGAUAUGUAGCCGAAGCUACCACUGAUAUGUAACCGAAGUUACCACUGAAUGUAGCCGAAGCUACCACUGGGAUGUAACCGAAGCUACCACUGAUCAAUAACACUGGAAAUGUCCACGGGCCUGCUCACACAAGCUGUCAGGUGUCUGCAACACAUGCUAGAUCACCCAGCACCCGGGACUCACUGUAACACUGUAACACUGGUCUCUAGUGACAUGUCACUUGUAUCCAUUUCUAUUCCUAAGUUCAACUGGGAAUUUACACUUAACACUUUAUUUUCAACACUUUAUCACUUGAAUAAUUCAUGAAUAUUUUUCCUUCCACAUUCAAUAUUGAUUCACAUAUCAAUAAAAUUCACAAUUUAUAAAAAUGUAUUACUAUUAUUUACACAUAACUUACCUCGGAUGCAAAACGACUAUUUCUGUAAUUUAGUCGAUAACUUUCUCUUUUCCCCGAUCACUUGCACUAUUUCUUCUUUCUUGAUCUAUAUUAACACAAUUUAAUACAUUUUAUCAACAUUUCAUUCAAAUACAAUUCAUACACAACAUUUUGGCAAAUUUACAUUUUUCCCCAAAACUUUUCAAAAAUUUCACUUUUGUCCCUAAGCUCGUAAAAAUAAAAUUCACUAAAUUCUUAAAUUUCAAACUUCACUAAAUCAUAUUUCAUGCUCAUAACAGCCCUCAAUUUCACAAAAUCACAACUUUAUGCACACUUUACCAUCUUUCACAAUUUAGCCCUUUUUCAACAUUUUCAUUGAAAUUCAUCUAGUAAAACUUGAAAUUAACACUUCAAACAUUCAUUAUCUAACAUCACUAAUCACUUUACAAUUAUAUCAUGAAUGGGUCAAUUUUUAAACUUUAAUUUCACUUAAAUUAAAUGGUAGAAACAUGAAAUUCAAGCAUCAAUAAGCAUAAAAAUACGAAAAUAAUUAAAAACGGGGCAAGAAAUCACUUACAAUUGAGCUUAGAAAAAUCAAAACCCUUAGCUAUGGUAACAUGAAACUUUCGGCAGCAAGCUUCUGAUUUUUGAAGAAGAUGACACUUAUUUUCUCUUAUUUUGUCUUUUUGGACAAAAAUGCCCUUGACCCAUUACUUAGAUAUUUUUCUAGAAUUACCCUUUUGUGUCCAUAUCACUAAUUUAUGGUCUAAUUGCCACAUAAACACUUCCAAUUUCAUGCAAUAAUUCAAUUAAGUCAUUUAAUCACUAAUUAGACACACUUUGCAAUUUUCUCGAUUUAGUCCUAAAAAUUCAAUUAGGCACUAAAUCAUUAAAAUUUCCUAUCCAUAUUUUCACACAAUAUUUCAAUCAAUCAAUAACUAAUAAAAAUUUAUAAAAUUAAAAUAUUUCACUUCGGAUUUGUGGUUACGAAACCACUAUUCCAAUUAGGCCCUAUUUCGGGCUAUCACAGUGGGAAAGGUCCAUGAAAUAAUUUUUCUAUGUUAUCAAAUAGAUGAAUGAUGGUUAUUGGGAUCAAACUAAUGAUUUUGAGGAUGUUAAUGGUUAAUUUGGUGGAGAGGGUGGAAAAGAAACAAAUAAUUCAUUAUAUGUCAUAUAAUUAUGCAAUUCAAGUUGUAAUACCCAAAUUUUACCCGGCCUACAAAAACAGUCCAAAUUACAAUGGGCUUAUGUGGCCCAAAACCUGAAAUGAACAGAGGCCCAAAACAAUGGCCCAAAACAAUGUCAGAAACUCCUAGGGUUUCUAAGGAAACUUUCCCGCCGCAGCCACCAAGCACCACGAGCCGAAAUCUUCACCUGCGCAGAAACAACGGAAAUGGCAAGAAAAUCAAAGAUUGCGAAUCAAAUAUGAGCAAGAUUUGAUUCUUUAUAUUAUUAUUUUCAUUAUGGCUAUAAAAUAGCCAUUGAUAUGCUGUAAAAAAGGAGGGGAAGACCAAAAGAAAUACAAAGACCAAUAGGAAAUUUUCUUUUUUUUGAAAUACAAAGGUUUUCUUUUCUGUUUUACCUCAUUGUCGAUUAUUGUUCUUUUAUUUUUUCAUUUAUACAUAUACAUAUUUGAUUUUUUAUAGUUUCUCUAUUUUUUUUAUUUAUUUUUGCUUAAAAUAUAAAGAAAAGAGGAGGGAUUUUACCUUUUUUUCGUCGAAGUUGUCGAACGGUGGCCAUCUCCGUCGCGAUCGGAGUGUUGGCACAGGCGAACAGCGGCGCAAAAGGGGUUAAGAAAAAACCCUAGCAGAGCAUUUGUGUUUUUUUUGUUUUUUUUUAUGUGGGUUAUUGAUUUUUAUUUUUUUAAAGAAUUUUCGUUUAAAUAACAUUAGCAAAACGACGCCGUUUUAGGGGAGCAGGAUCCGCGCGUUGACCCGACCUGCAGGCAGGGUGCACGUUCUGGCCUUGAAUGGGGUAUUUGUGCAUUUAGUCCCUCCUCUUUGCGACGCACUUCAAUAAAACCCAUUUUUCUUUUUCUUUUUUUAAAUUUAGCGGCAUAUUUCAUUUUUGUUUCAAUCGAGUCCGUCACUGCGCAGCGUUUUGGAAGUCGGAAUUAAUUUCCCUUUUGGUCCUCUAUUGUUGCUUGCGCAUUCAAGUUGGUCCCUUCUUUAUAUUUAUUGCUAAUUUGCCCCAUUUUUUCGCUUUUAGUUCAGUUUAGUCCAUUUUUUUAGCUAUUUCAUUAUUUAGUUAUUUUUUUAUUUAUUAUUAUUAUUAUUAUUAUUAUUAUUAUUAUUUCUAAAUUUAUACACGCAUUUUUUUAUGGUAUAUAUAUAUAUGCAUUUUUUUUGUAUAAUAUAUAUUUUUUAACUUUUAUAAAUACAUGCAUAUACUUCAUACAUAUUUGUUUAUUAUUAUUUUGAUUUCAAAACUUUUAUAUACUUUAAAUUUUAUAUACAUACAUAUACAUUUUAUAACACAUAUACAUUUUCCACGUUUUAUAAUUUAAAAUACACAUACAUUUUCUAUAAUAUAUUUAUGUAUACGUUUUUAUUCUUUAUAUUUUUUUUGGUUUAUUUCCUUCGUCUAUUCAUUGAUUUAGGUUUUCAUUUACAUUUUAAAAGAAUGUCCUUUUUUUAUAUUGCUUAUUCAUUUUAUAUUUUUGCAUUGUCAUUGUUUAUUUUUUUAUUUUAUAUUAAUUUCGUUUAUUUACUAUUUAUAUUAUUUCUAUACAAUUGUCGUAUUUAUUAUUGCAACAUUUAUACAUACAUUCCAUAUAACAUUACAUCAUCUUUUACUCGAAUUUAAAAAUAGAAAAUUUUCAAAAUAGAGAUAAUACUCGUAUUUAGGAUUUUCAAGAAAAUUGAGCCCUAACGUAUUGGGUUCCGAUUUUCUUCGUUAAAUCUAACAAUCGAGAAUUGCUCUUUGAUAAAAAAUAAAAUAAAAACUUGUCAUCGGGAAUUCAAUAUGUUGUGUCCUAACAUAUUGGAUGUGAUGCGUUGAUUUCUCGAGAUAAAGAUUUUCUAAACAAUAAAAGAAAUAUUCAAUGUUUGGGAUUUUAAGAAAUUGUGCCUUAACGUAUUGGGCUGUGAUUUCUUCAUAAAUUUUAAACAAUUAAAUAUUUUCUUAAAUUUUAUUACACGAGUUUUUUGGACCAGCUCAUCUUAAAAAGAAUAAAAUAUUGUGCCCUAACGCAUUGGGUGUGAUAUUUUCUUUUUUCAAAAUGAGAAAGUCUUAACAAAAAAUUUAAUUUAACUAAGGAUCGUAUUUAUUAACUCUCGACAUUAAGACACUGAUUAAUCAACUCGGUACCAAUUUUUGGGUGUUACGAGGGUGCUAAUCCUUCCUUGCACGUAAUUUACUCCUAAACCCGUUUUUUAAAACUCGUAGGCCAAAGUCGUUUUUUGGUGAUCCAAUCACACCUUAAUAAAAGAUUGGUGACGACUCCAAUUUUCAUCGACAACUAAUUUUUGUUUUUUUUCAAAAUAAAAAUGGUUUCGACAGCUUGGCGACUCCGCUGGGGACACAUACGAGAGUCGAGCCACAAAGUUGAUUAAUUUCUGUCUUAUUGGCGAGAAAAUAAAUUUUUUUAAAAAAAUCAUGAAAUCAUUGUGCAUUCAUUCAUUUUCUUGCUUAAUUGAUCUUUGCAUUAUACAUUACAUGAGUUGAAUGAUUUUACCCUUCUAAGUGGGAGUGAGAAACUAUUCCUUCGUGAGGUUUUCACCUCCGUAUAGGAUAGUGGAUCGCUUUCGGGAUACAUCUGUACCUAUGCCUUCUUGAGAUUUUCAUCUUCGUAUAGUCAUAGGGAAAAUGUAUUCCCCUGAACCGAACUUGAUCUAUAUGAGCCUAUAAUGGGUGAAGAUUGAGGAAUCUGCUGGUUUGGGUACCUUUGCCCUAGAAGUCAAACCACAUAUAGUGAACCUUAGGAACUUGCCCUAGGUAGGGAUAUGCCAAACCCCUAGUGGUCACCCGAAUAGGUUUUCUAUUUAUUCUUGCUUUAGCUUUGUACCAACCUGUUUUCUUUUUGGUUGUGAUUGCAUUGCAUUUUCAUCAUAAAAAAAGAGAGAGGUGUUGAUUCACAUUCAGUUGCUAAAUAGAUAGCUUGUCAUAAGAAAAUGAGUUUCUUGAUAAAAUGGAUGAUAAUAUGGUUGUCCGAAUAUGGUCCAAGAAAUGUGAUAAGAGAAGGAUGAUAGUUUAAUGGAGGACUACACGACUAUGGCUCCAUUGCCCAAGGAUUCAAGAUAACAAAGAUUAUUCGAGAGCCGCUAAACUUUCUUAAAGAGAAACCAACAAGCAUCACAAGGAUGAGUGAGCAACAAAUUGCGGCCUGGAUCAAGCAAAAAGGAGAUAGAAGAGACUUCCUUUUUGAAAAGUUCGUGAGAUUUAUCUUAACGCUUGAAUGAAGAAGAGGAUCGAAUGUCUUCGCCUAUGAGGGCAAGGCUGUAUAAAUAUUCAUUUUAUGUAAAGAGAUUUGUUUUCUAGUAAAGUUCUCUAAAUGGAAUUGAAUCAGAAUCAACGUCCCUUUAUGCAUUCAUUUCCUGCAUUCGCAUUACAUGAUAUCAUAGCAUUAAAAUCCACUAAAAGAUUCUAAUUAAUAUAAAUCAUUCCUCAGUUAAUCUGGAAACCAACCAACCCAUCACACACCACUACGGUACUCGAUCAAAAACUAAAGACAUGGACCAAAGGAUGGAAAGGUUAGAACAGUUCCAAAAAGAAAUGCAGUAUCAACUUCAAUAACAAAUGAAUGAACAACUUGAGAAAAUUCAGCAAAAAAUGAUGGACAAAAUGAUGGAAUCUCAAGAGAGUAUGAUGGCUCAAUUAACUCAGUUGUUGACCAGAGGAACUAAUAAAGGAAAAGGCUCUGUGCUCAAUAUGGAAGAAGGAGACAGUGAGGGACUUCUUUAUCCUCCAGGCUUGACCCCUCAGCAUGGGCAGACCCAAGUAGAGGUAUAUCCGCACAAAUCCUCUAUCACCAUCAAGCCUCAGCAGUUUCAGGCCGGUGCUGUAACACCAAUGAAUUUUCCAGCUAGAUCAGGCCCUAACCCCAGAGACGACCUUGUUAAUCCUGAUAUCCCUGACUUCGAUGAAACAGCUGAAAAAGAGAAAAUGAAUGGUGAAUUGCCAAAACAGCUCGAAGAAAAGUAUAAAUGGCUGGAGGAAAAACUUAGAGUGAUGGAAAGUACUAAGAGCUACCAUGGAAUUGACACUAAAGAAUUGAGCUUGGUUCCGGAUUUAGUACUCCCUUAUAAAUUCAAAAUUCCUGAGUUUGAGAAGUACAAUGGAACUAAUAGCCCCGAAGCUCAUAUUACCAUGUUUUGUAGGCGGAUGACUGGGUAUGUUAAUAAUGACCAACUGCAUAUACAUUGUUUCCAGGAUAGCCUUGCAGGGGCAGCAUCCAAGUGGUACAACCAACUGAGCCGUACCAAGAUUAAUUUAUGGAGAGAUUUAGCAUAGGCAUUCAUAAAGCAGUACAAUCAUGUAACUGACAUGGUACCUGAUAGAAUCACUCUACAGAACAUGAAAAAGAAGCCUGGUGAAAGUUUUAGGCAGUACACACAGAGGUGGAGGAGGUCGCAGUCCAAGUUCAGCCACCGCUUCUGGAAAAGGAAAUGACAAUGCUAUUCAUAAAUACAUUGAAAGCUCCGUUCAUCACACAUAUGUUAGGGAGUGCUACAAAAAGCUUUUAUGGCAUAAUCAUGAAUGGUGAAAUGAUUGAAAGCGCCAUAAGGAGCAGAAAAAUUGAUGCUGGAGGGAAUAACAGAAGGCAAGCCUCAAAAGAAAAAGAAAAUGAGGUGAACAGCGUGAAUACGUACAGAAAAUCGAUUGCUAAUCAGUAGGGUUCAUCAAGACAAGAAUCAUGUGUGAAGCAAGGUACUGAAAAACUCUAGUUCACUCCAAUUCCAAUGUCGUACAAGGAGCUGUAUCAAAGCUUAUUCGAUGCGCAUAUUGUUUCUCCUUUACAUGUGAAGCCUCCACAGCCUCCGUAUCCCAAAUGGUACGACGCAAGUGCACAAUGCGAUUAUCAUGUGGGAAUUACGGGACACUUAAUAGAGAGUUGCAUUACCUUCAAAAAGCUAGUUGAAAAAUUCAUCAACAUGGGUAUCGUCAAGUUGAAUGGCUCAUUUAAUGCAGAAAAUUUACUACCCAAUCAUGAUUGACAAUGGGGUGAAUGCAAUAUAUGAAGAGAUGUUAGGAAGUGUUCACAUCAAUGACAUAUAGGAAUACACAAAUGAAAGGGGGACCUUGUUAGAUAUCCGCCCUUAUAAAUCUGGGAGUGUUUAAAAUAAUUGGAUUGCGGAAGAAAUAUCUAUAGUCUUUAGAGCGUAUUUAGAGUAAUGUUCAGAACAUUCUUGUUGUUUUUAGCCUAAAAAUGAUAGGAAUUCCUUUGUGAAAUAGACUCAUGUCUGAUGAUCAUUAUUAUAAUAAAAUACAUCUUUGUAUUUAUUUUUGAGCCAACAUUCUUUCAUUCUUUGCGAGUAAUUAUUUUGUCAUUCUUUUGGAUUUUCUUCCACAUCAUUCUUUCAUUCAUAAUUAUAUUAAAAAAAUAAUUAUUCGUAAAUUCACACAUUCUUUUGCGCUUACUAUGGGACCCCAAAUAUCAAUGACAUGAGUGACGCUGUACUGACUCAAAAUCUCCUUCUGAGCGAGACAUGUGUUUAAAGGGAUCUCAUGACUUUGAAGAUGACAUAGAUCGUAGCCUAUUUCUGGACCUAUUAAGGAUGGUAGAACAAGUCGAGAAACGAAUCUUACCCUACAAAGAAUCAUUGGGAUAUAUGACUUCUCCUUAUGUGGGGCAUGAAGGUCAUUUGGUCGAUCUCGCCAAAAGAGUCUGACGGUCAUUGAUUCAUCUUUGUGAUCGUCAAUUACUUUACUAAAUGAGGGGAAGCUGCUUUAUAUGUCAAUGUCACAAAGUUGACAGUUAGCAAAUUCUUGAAGAAUCAUAUGGAACGUCAAAAGGAUCAUAUCUGACAAUGUACUAAAUUUGAGCAACAGCACAAUAUCAAAAGUUUGCAGUCUAUUCACGAUUAAUGCCAUAUCACCAAAAAAGAUGGCGCAAAAAAAAGAGAGAAAAGAAGAAAGAAAAUGGAGAGGCCAAAGUGAAAACCCGCAAAGGGCACCUUGAGACCAAAGGGGAUUUGAGUUGAAAACCCGAAACAGGCGGCUCAAAUAUUGAUCAGAAUAGGGCAUGAGGUGAUUAGAGCAACUCGAAUUUUAACCAGAUUGGGGCAUGUGGUGAUCUUGUUAUACCUGAAUUAUCAGGAAAGGGUAGGCAACAUCUUGGGGCAUUGGCAGAGUACUGUGGAUCUCCUAAACACAUGUCAAACUCAGAAGGAUCUUCAAAAAGUUUGUACGGAGAAAUUCAAGCUGCGAUAUCUGGGGCACCCAAUUUUCAUACUAUUGAAUUUGUUAUUCUUAGAAUACUUCAUUCUUUUCAAAGAUACACAUUCCCAAUCAAUUUCUUUGUUAUCCUUUUUACUAUUUUUGAUAAUUUAUUCCUUUCGAGCUAUGCUCAGAACUAAUUUUAUUCUUAUCCAUUGUUAUGACCUUUUUGCAUGCAUAUUGCAUUGGAAUAAUGAUCAAUGGACUAAUAAAACUUUCACAAGGGAAGUUUUGCAUAUUACUCUAGAAGUUUCUAAAUAAUAUAGGAGCCUGAAACAGGACUAUUAUUUAGAACGCACUAGGUUUAAAGGUUGGAAAUCUAAAAAGGAAGAGUCUAAACUAGGACUUUCUCUUUGGAUUUUGUUGUCAAAAAUCAUUAGUUGAACAAAAUAAUAAGAUGUCGUGUUGAUGACAAAGCUUAAAUCAACAAGCAAGUAAUGAUCACCAGGCAAUAGAAAGAGGUUACCUCGGGGAAGAGAGCCCUCAUUUGCUCAUGAGCCUUUGGUACGACACCCUAGGAAUGGUGUAAGAGACAAGAAAGAUUUAGAUCCUGUAUCCUUGAAUUGUGAUAGGAGAGGAUUGAAGAAAAGCCAUAUACCCUUGGGUUACAGUGGGAGAACGAUGGUAUGAAUUUUUGCGCCCCAAUGGAUUAAACUUUGAGGUUUACAGUGGGGGCAACCUGACUAAAUGUUUCUUCAGAAAAGCCAGCCAAGCAAGAAGGCAUUGUAGCACGUUAGUGUUAAAGCCUUAAUAAUCUUCGAACAAUGACAACCUAGGUGGGAUCAUUCUCGAAAAAAAAACUAUGCAUUCAUGCAAACACCAUUCACAGAUGUCUAGUUAGGAGCAUUUGAUUCAUUUUAUGCCAUCCUAAUCAUUAGGCAUAAAUAGGUUCAUUAUACAGGUCAUGUUCCCCAGAGAGCAGAUCAGUAAAAAUAGCAGAUCUUGCCUUCCUACACCGACAGUGAAACAGAUCAAAGACACCAGCCAUGCCUCCCUGGGUUGCAGUGGAGUAGGUUAAAAAUAGCAGAUCUUGCCUUCAUGCACCGACAGCGAAGCAGAUCGAAGAGACCAGCCUUGCCUCCCUGGGUUGCAGCGGAGCAGGUUAAAAUAGCAGAUCUUCCCUUCCUGCACUGACAGCGAAGUAGAUUGAAAACACCAGCCUUGCCUCCUUGGGUUGCAGUGGAGCAGGUUAAAAAUAGUAGAUCUUGCCUUCCUGCACCGACAGCGAAGCAGAUCGAAGACACCAACCUUGCCCCCUAGGUUGCAGUGGAGCAGGUUAAAAAUAGCAGAUCUUGCCUUCCUGCACCGACAGCGAAAUCGAAGACACCAGCCUUGCCUCCCUGGGUUGCAGCGUAGCAGGUUAAAAAUAGCAUAUCUUACCUUCUUGCACCGACAGCGAAGCAGAUCGAUGACCCCAGCCCUAUUUCCCUGGUCAGCAGGGGAAUAAGUUGAAGAUUGAGAAUCUUAUCUCCCUGAAGUUGCAGUGGAGUAGAUUAAAGCCAAUAAUCCUAUCUCCUUAAAUUUGUAGUGGAGCGGAUUAAAACCACAGAUCUUAUCUCUCUAAAGUUGCAGAGAGCAGAUCGCAUCUGGUCUUAUCUCCCAAAAGUUGCAGUAGAGCAGACUGAGUAAGAAAGUCUUAUCCCCCUGAAAUUGCAGUGGGGCAGACUAAAUGAACAAAUCUUAUCUCCCUAAAGUUGUAGUGGAGUGGAUUAGAAUGAUGGGUCUUAUCUCUCUGAAGUUGCAACAGAGCAGAUCACAUCAAAUUCAUCUUUAAGUGACAGCAGAUCAAGUUGAAGCUAUAAGUCUUAUCUCCCUGAAGUUGCAGUGGAGUAGAUUGAAGCACUAGUUCCUAUACCUUUGAAGAUGCAGUAUGAAGGAAUGAGGCUACUUGAAGAAGAAGACUACCUAGGUCCAGCACGAUCGGGUAAAAUUGGGCAUUUUUAAAGUCUUUACUCCAUUCCUGUUACACGAUAACGAGUAAAGAGGGGCAGCUGUAAUACCCAAAUUUUACCGAGCCUACAAAAACAGUCCAAAUUACAAUGGGCUUAUGUGGCCCAAAACCCGAAUGAACAGAGGCCCAAAACAAUGGCCCAAAAUAAUGUCAGAAACUCCUAGGGUUUCUGAGGAAACUUUUGCGCCCAGCCACCAAGCACCACGAGCUGAAAUCUUCACCUGCACAAAAACAACAGAAAUGGCAAGAAAAUCAAAGAUUGCGAAUCAAAUAUGAGCAAGAUUUGAUUCUUUUUAUUAUUAUUUUCAUUAUGGCUAUAAAAUAGCCAUUGAUAUGCUGUAAAAAAGAGGGGGAAGACCGAAAGAAAUACAAAGACCAAUAGGAAAUUUUCUUUUUUUGAAAUACAAAGGUUUUCUUUUCUGUUUUACCUCAUUGUCGAUUAUUGUUCUUUUAUUUUUUCAUUUAUACAUAUACAUAUUUGAUUUUUUUAUAGUUUCUUUAUUUUUUAUUUAUUUUUGCUUAAAAUAUAAAGAAAAGAGGAGAGAUUUUACCUUUUUUUCGUCGAAGUCGUCGAAUGGUGGCCAUCUCCGUCGCGAUCGGAGUGUUGGCACAGGCGAACGAUGGCGCAAAAGGGGUUAAGAAAAAACCCUAGCAGAGCAUUUGUGUUUUUUUGUUUUUUUUAAUCUGGCUUAUUGAUUUUUAUUUUUUAAAAAAAGAAUUUUCGUUUAAAUAACAUUAACAAAACGGCGCCGUUUUAGGGGAGCAGGAUCUGCGCGUUGACCCAACCCGCAGGCAGGGUCCACACGUUCUGGCCUUGAAUUGGGUAUUUGUGCAUUUAGUCCCUCCUCUUUGCGACGUGCUUCAAUCAAACCCAUUUUUCUUUUUUUUUUUUAAAUUUAGCCGCAUAUUUCAUUUUUGUUUCAAUCUGGUCCGUCACUGCGCAGCGUUUUAGAAGGCGGGAUUAAUUUCCCUUUUGGUCCUCUAUUGUUGCUUGCGCAUUCAAGUUGGUCCCUUCUUUAUAUUUAUUGCUAAUCUGCCCCAUUUUUUCGCUUUUAGUUCAGUUUAGUCCAUUUUUUUAGCUAUUUCAUUAUUUAGUUAUUUUUUUAUUUUUUUGUUAUUGUUAUUAUUAUUAUUUCUAUACUUAUUAUUUCUAUAUUUAUACACGCAUUUUUUUAUAGUAUAUAUAUAUAUAUGCAUUUUUUAUAUAUAAUAUAUAUUUUUUAACUUUUAUAAAUACAUGCAUAUACUUCAUACAUAUUUGUUUAUUAUUAUUUUGAUUUCAAAACUUUUAUAUACUUUAUAUUUUAUAUAUAUACAUAUACAUUUUAUAACACAUAUACAUUUUCCACGUUUUAUAAUUUAAAAUACACAUACAUUUUCUAUAAUAUAUUUAUGUAUACGUUUUUAUUCUUUAUAUUUUUUUUUUGGUUUAUUUCCUUCGUCUAUUCAUUGAUUUAGGUUUUCAUUUACAUUUUAAAAGAAUGUCCUUUUUUUUAUUUUGCUUAUUCAUUUUAUAUUUUUGCAUUGUCAUUGUUUAUUUUUUUACUUUAUAUUAAUUUCGUUUAUUUACUAUUAUAUUAUUUCUAUACAAUUGUCGUAUUUAUUAUUGCGACAUUUAUACAUACAUUCCAUAUAACAUUACAUCAUCUUUUACUCGAAUUUAAAAAUAGAAAAUUUUCAAAAUAGAGAUAAUACUCGUAUUUAGGAUUUUUAAGAAAAUUGAGCCCUAACGUAUUGGGUUCCGAUUUUCUUCGUUAAAUCUAACAAUCGAGAAUUGCUCUUUGAUCAAAAAUAAAAUAAAAACUUGUCAUCGGGAAUUCAAUAUGUUGUGUCCUAACGUAUUGGAUAUGACGCGUUGAUUUCUCGAGAUAAAGAUUUUCUAAAAAAUAAAGGAAAUAUUCAAUGUUUGGGAUUUUAAGAAAUCGUGCCCUAACGUAUUGGGCUGCGAUUUCUUCAUAAAUUUUAAACAAUUAAAUAUUUUCUUAAAUUUUAUUACACGAGUUUUUUGGACCAACUCAUCUUAAAAAGAACAAAAUAUUGUGCCCUAACUCAUUGGGUGUGAUAUUUUCUUUUUUCAAAAUGAGAAAGUCUUAAUAAAUAAUUUAAUUUAACUAAGGAUCGUAUUUAUUAACUCUCGACAUUAAGACACUGAUUAAUCAACUCAGUACCAAUUUUUGGGUGUUACGAGGGUGCUAAUCCUUCCUCGCACGUAACUGACUCCCGAACCUGUUUUUUAAAACUCGUAGGCCAAAGUCAUUUUUAGGUGAUCCAAUCACACCUUAAUAAAAGAUUGGUGGCGACUCCAAUUUUCAUCGACAACUAAUUUUUGUUUUUUUCAAAAUAAAAAUGGUUUCGACACAAGUAAUAGUAAGUUUCAUACAAGGUUCAAAGGCAAUUAAAUGACUUGUAAGUUUGUUGAACUUCUUUGAAAGGCCCAAAGGCAAUUGAACAUUUACAAAAUAGUCUCUAUAUACUGUAGAGACAAAUCAAAUCCAUGGGAGCAUUACAGUUAGUUAAAUUGAGCAUUGGCAGAAAUUCCAUCAUAGGAAAUAUUGGCAAAAUCGUCUAUUUAAUUAGAAAAACAACAUAAUUCAUGAAACAUAGAUAGCCCAAUAUAAAUGUCAUCGAGAAAAAAAGUCUGUUUGUUUUAUAGCACAUGAUAGUAAAGCAUGCGAAGUUUCAUUCUUCUUAUUGGCCUCCUUUAGUUUUCCUUGAUCAUCAACCACUAGCCAAAAACACAAUUAGAUUAGAUUAUAAAUGAAACAUUCAAUUAUGAUAAAAUUAAAUAGAAAACACCCUAAAUAACUCUAGAUAAAUGAAUAGUAGCAAAUUACCUGGUGAGGCAAGCUAGCUCAAUUAAGAUCAUUGUGUUAGACUUGUGUAUGCAUUAAACAAUCUAAAAGAAAAUGAAGGAAAAGACUUAGAAAACACUUGAAAAUUGACAAAAUUUAUAUGCCAUUGACUGGUUAAACUAUGAUCACCCAUAACAGACCUUGUAUUGGAGUUUUUGUUGAGGGAGAUCAAGUCCUUCAAGAAAAGUCUUUUAAGUGUUGUUUGUUACGUAAUCGCUGCUACCCUCAACAAAAGGUAUUGUCCUCAUGUCAAGAUUUUAUCCUCAGCCUUUAUGGAAUAAUCAUGGAGAUUACAUGUGCAAGGAUUCAAACCACCAACCAAUGCAUAUGUAGUAUUUACUUUGGAACCAUCUCCGUGAACCCACGAGGUUCUUUGCAGAAUCAAGAGACAAAACCCCAACACAAGAAUAAUACCAUCUAUUGAGGGUCCUUUAACACAACAAAUGAAAUUCAUACAUUUAUUUAAUAAAAGUAAAUAUCAUAUUUAAUUGGGGAAAAGCAACAAAAAAUCCAACAAUAAAAUCCUUAGCAAAAGAUUAAAACACAGUUAUAUCGUAAAUGACAUAAGAAACUAAGAAAAUCCAAUCUGACAAAGAAAAUAACUUGAUGCUCCAAAGCUACCAUAUACCGUAAUUCAUGGGAAGGUCUGAUGCUCAUUUUAUUGGUUUCCAUCUUGAUUUUGCAAAAGAAGUUUGAAUUUUGAAGAGAGCAAAAGAUUGAGCGAAAGAAAAAAAAUUAGUUUAUUAAUUUUCACAAUUUAUAAGACAAACCUUAUGGAGACAAAUAAUGACAUAUUAGAUAUUUGUGAUUAAAAUUCUAGAAUAGAUUUAAAAUGUUGAAUUAAUGAUGAAAUUAAUAGUGAAUUAAUAACAACAAGCGUACUGAUUACUUAGCUUCUUUGUUAAACAUGUUCGAUGUUGUUUAACAGCCUUUGUUUGAUUUUCUUUAGCUCAACCACAACAUCUUUCAUAUCUUUUCUUUCUUCUGGUAACUCAGCUGAACAAUUCAAAGCCAACUCCAUGAUGGAUGAAAUACAAUUUGCUUUAACAACAAAGUACUCAUCCUUUCUUCUUAGUAAAUCAACAUCUGCAAUUUCUAUCGCUCCUUUAGGCAACGAACUUUCCAUCCAAUGCGUUAUAGUCAUUUCUUCAGCAAAAAAUUUAUCAGUUGGCUUUUUCUUUGUAAAAGUUUCUAUAAGGAUGAUCCCAUAACUAUAGACGUCACAUUUUAUACAAACAAUUCCUGUUGAUCCAAAUUCUGCAUUUCAAGUAUAAUUAGAACAUCAUCAAUCCUUAAUUAGUUCUAAAAUGCUUAUUCAAAUAUAUAUCCAUAUAUGCAUGAAACAAAAGUAUAAAAUGCAAAUUAGGAAAAUAAUGAUACAAAAAAAAAAUUCACCUGGUGCCAUAUACCCGAUAGAUGCAAGAGUCAUGGUUUGCUUUAUUACAUCACCUUCUCCCAACAAUUUGGCACAACAAAAUCUCCCACAUGUGCAACCAUGUCUUUAUCUAGUUGUAAUAGCCCAUUUUGCCCGGGGCCCAAUAAAACCCAAAACAAACCAAAAUAAUAAAACAUUCACAGUCCAUUUACAAUAAAUAAACACACUACCCAUAUCAAGCCCAAUUAAACCCAAAUCUCAAAGCCCAAAACAAAACAACACAACCCGAGCCCAUAAACUAAAAAUUUUCAGCACAAAAAACCCUAGCCCUAAGCCUCCAGUGCCGCAUGUGCUCCACCGCCGCCGCUCGCCUAUCACCGGCCAUCCACGCGUCUGGCACCACCUGCAAGAGCAAACAACACGCAAAAGAAGAGGCCAACCAGUAACAGACAAGAACAAAGAAAUGAAACAAAUUUUGUAAUUUUGGCUAUAAAAGCCCGAAUAUAUCUUUGUAAUUUCUUCUUCCGUUUUACGAACAUCUAGUAAAAAAAAGAAGAAAAGCAGAGAACAGAUUUUCGAGAGGUGAAACCUUUUUUUCGGUUCUUUUUUUUCAUUAUAUUUUAUUUUUUUAUUUUCAUUUUUUAUAUCAAACAAUGAAAUAAAAAAAAGGAGAAAGAAAUGUAGCAGAAUCGACCCUUAGCCCCGCCGUCGGUGGUCUUUUCCCCGGCAUCGAAAUUGGCGAGAAAUGAGGCAAAGGUCGAAUCUUUUUCAUUUUUCUUUACUUUUCAGUCAUUUUCCUUGUAGAUCUAAAAUCUACGCUUAAAACGGGCUAAAAAUAAAAAGUUUUGGGUUCUCCGGUCACCGUGGGCUGCGACACCGUCGCCGACGAUCGGCGGCCGCCACGGGGGUCAACGGCCGGCCCUUUGCCCGGAAUCGAAGAGAAAUUUUAAGAGAAAAGGGAGCUUUGGAAAUUUUUUAAAGCAAAUGGCUGAAAUGGGGUUUCAAAAAAAUGUUGGCUUUUAUAAUACUAUUAAACGGCGUUGUUUUGCAACUGAAGGUCAGGUGCCAAAACGACGUCGUUUUGGCCCUUACCCGCUCGCGCUCCCGACCCGCUCCUGGGGGAUCCGCGUGUUUUUGGCGUUUGGGCUAUUUGCACUGCGGAUCCUUCUGCAUUUCGCCCAGUUUAUGAUUUAGUCCCUUUCGUUAGAUUUCUUUUAUUUUUAAUUUCGCCUUGAAAUUUUGUUCUGAUUUUAUCGGAGUCCCGCAAAGUGCUGCGUUUUGGAGGGCAGGGAUAUUUUCCCCUUUGGUCCCUCCUUGUUAUUCACGCACUCGAUUUGGUCCCUUUCUUUUAUUCAUUUGCGAAUUUGCCCCCAUAUUUCUGUGUUAAGUUCAAAUUAGUCUCUUUUUUAUUUAUUUUUGCUAUUAAAUUAAUUAAUUUUGAUAAUAUUAUCAUUAUUAUUAUUAUUAUUAUUAUUAUUAUUAUUGCUAUUAUUAUCUUCGUAUUAUUAUUAUUGUUUGCUUUAUUAUUAGUAUUAUUAUUAUUUUCAUUAUUACUAAUAUUAUUAUUUUUAUUUUACUACUCUUAUUAUUAUAUAUUGUUAUUAUUUUUAAAUUGUUUUACCUAAUAUUCCCUCGUUUAUUAUUUAUAUUCACUCGUUCAAAUUUUCAAUCAUUUUCAAUUAGUUACUUCUUUUUUUAAAUCAGUUUGUUUUAUUUUUUAUUUUCAUUUUAUUAUUUCAUUAUUUUAUUGUUUUUAUUAUUUAUAUUAUUUUUGUUUUUACUCUUAUUAUUCCUUUUUAUUUUGGUUUAUUUCAUUUCAACUUUUGCGCUCAAAUUUUUUUUGUUAUUUCGUCAUCUAUUUAUUUUCGUAUUUAUAUUUUGUUAUACAUACAUUCAAAUCUCAACUAUUCAUUAUCAUUAUUAAUUUUAUUAUUAUUGUUAUUUAUAUUUAUUAUUGACAUCCUCAUCAUGUUGUUGCACACAUUAGCAUUGUAAUCCAUUUUACAUUUUACUAUAAAAUCGCGUUAUGUUAACCUUCAUCCAAUACAUUUUAUAUUAAGCAAUUUUGUAACUCAAAAUUCCAGAAAUCGUACCCUAACUUACUGGGUUUCGAUUUUCCUCGACGAGUCUAAAGAACCAAUCCUUUUUUUAAAAAAUCAAAGCAUAAGUUAAAUAAAAACUUAUCCUCAGGAGUUCAAAAUGUUGUGUCCUAACUCACUGGAUGUGACAUUUUGUUAUCUCAAGGUAAAGAUUUCUAGAAACACAAAGGCAAUAUUUUGAAUUUGGAAAUUCGAGAAAGUGUGCCCUAACGUGCUGGGUUUCAAUUUCUCGUUUGACCAAAUAGCCAAAUAUCCUCUUAAAACUUCAAAGUAUGGGUUUUUCAAACCAUAAGGUGAUCUUUGUUUCGAUGGUUUAAAGUAUCGUGUCCUAACGUGCUGGAUGUGAUAUUCCUUCGGAAUAAGAGAAUCUUAAAUUUCAAUCCAUGUUAUUCAAAUUUUUUUUAAGGAUUGUAUAUUUUUUUAAACUCUUCAAAGUUUUCAAUCUUCGACAUUAAGACACUAAUUAAUCAACUAGGUACCAAUUUUUGGGCAUUACGAGGGUGCUAAUCCUUUCUCGUACGUAACCGACUCCCGAACCUGUUUCUUUGAAUUUCGCAGACCAAAAGAAUUGUUUUAAUAAAUCUAAAUUGUUUAUUAAAAACAAUCGUUUUACGAGGUGACCCGAUCACACCUCAUCAAAAAAGAUUGGUGGCGACUCCCGUGUUUAUUAUCAUUUUCAAAACCCAAGUCGACCCCGUUUUCACAAAAAAAAUGGUGCCAACACUAGUAAAAUAUUGCUUGGUUUUAAGUCACAAUGAAUUACAGAUGUUGGAUGUCCAUUGUGGAGAUGUUCUAUAGCUACCGCAACAUCUAUCAUUAUGUCGACCCUUUGUAUGAUAUCAAGGAAGCAAAUUUCGGAAUGUAACCAUUUCUCAAGGUUUCCAUUAGACAUGUUAUCAAGCACCAAGGCUUUAAAGUCAACACUUGAGCAGCAAGUAAUGACCUUCACAAUAUUACGAUGAACUAUAUUACGCAUAGCAUCACAUUCAAUGUCAACACUCCUAAAUGCUCCCUCUGUUUGCAAAUUAAAAACUUUUAUUGCAACUUCCAUUCCAUCUGAAAGCCUCUCUUUAUAUACAUAUCCAAAACUCCUUGAACCAAGCAUAUUGUUUUCCUCAAAUCCAUUAGUUACUUGUGAAAGUUCAGCAUGUGAAAUUCUUCUCAGCGUUUUCAAAGACAACAAAUCAUCCUUACUUGGUAGAGUUGUACUCCUACUUUGGCAUCUUCUAUACAUAAUAGUUAAGACUAUUAGUAAUACGACAAUACCAAUUGUUGGUAAACCAUACCUUAAAACAUGCAAUAUAUUCAUUUGGGAGUUUUCUUGGAUGUCGUUUUUGCAAGGGGGGACUAGCAAUCUAGGUGGACCACAAAGUGCAAAAUUCUUCAUGAAUGAUCUACUAGAAAAGUUUGGAAAACAUCCUUCGGUGGGAAUUUCCCCUUCAAGUCUAUUGAAAGACACAAUAAAAUACUUUAGAUCUAAAAGAUUUUUCGAAGAUUUGGGAAUGGCUCCAGAGAGAUUGUUAUUGCAUAAAUUCAAGAAUUCCAAACUAAUCAAACCAUCUAAUGAUCCAGGGAUAUGACCAUGUAGUAUAUUAUUUAAUAAAUCUAAUGAAAUCAAAGUUUGAAGACCCCCAAAUGUGAAUAAGAUAUCGCCUGUGAGAAUAUUCCUUGAUAUAUUUAGUUUCAAUAAACUCCUCAAAUUUCCAACAUCAAUAGCAUGUGAAUUGUGAAGAUGGUUUGAUGAUAAAUCUCUUUCUAAGAUAUCUUUAAGAUUCCACAAAGUUGAGGGUAUUGCAGAACUCAAUUUGUUGGAAUUUAAGUAAAGAUAUCUUAAAGAAGUACUAUAACCCAAACAAGAGGGUAUGGAUCCAUGCAAGUUAUUCAACCCUAAAUACAUCUCGUAUAGUCUCUCCAAACCACAAAGGCUUUUUGAGAUUGGUCCUAAUUUAUUCGAGUGAAAAGUUAGACUUUGGAGAUUUCUCAUUCCUCCUAUUGAUGCUGGAAUAGAUCCACUUAAUUUAUUAUACCCAAGUUGUAAAAGCAAUAGGUUGUUUAAGUUACCUAUUUCCAUAGGACUAUUGCCUUUAAGCUCACAAUUAUUGGCAAAAAAGUAUUGAAGGGAUUUUGAAAGGUUCCCGAUAUAAGUAGGAAGAACAUCACUCAAUGGAUUUCCUGAAACAACUAUUCUUCUCAAAUGCCUGCAAUUUGCCAAAGAAGAAAGAAAGGUCCACUCAUGAUCAAUAGCAGAUCCUGUGAUCAAAUUAUUAUUUAUGAUUCGGAGCACUUCAAGGUGUCUUAAGUUGCCAAGCGUUUUAGGAAUUGGGCCAGAGAAUAAGUUAUCUUCCAAGGCUAGAUUCUUAAGCAUGGAAGCAUUGGAGAUAGAGCCGGUAAUGUUUCCGCUAAAUUUAUUUCCCCACAAUACAAGAUUCUCAAGUUUUGGAGCAUUGGUAAGGGUGGUAGAGUACCUGUAAGAUAGCAUCUUUUAAUAUACAUAGCCAUUGGAUACCAAAUUCACAAAACAUAUAAUACAUUAAAAUACAUUUUUAAAAUAAAAAUUGUAAACCUUUAAAUCAAAUAAAAAUAUAAUUUUGGCCUGGAAAAAUGUGAUCAAAUCAAUUAGUCCCUUGUGAUUUGUAUAAACAAAAAAAUAAAAUAAAACCAUUCCAUACCAGUAUUGUAUUUGAUUUAAUGAUAGAGUUGUAAGUUACUUGUAAAAGUUACAUGCUCUAGCAUAUAAAUUUUGUCCAAGCCUUGGGUUGAAAUCAUCGUUACUUUUUUAGAUCUAAAAUUGAUUGAAUAUCAAAUUUGUAAAAUACUGUAAAAUUUUGAAUCAAAUAAAAACAAAACUUUGACAUGAAAAUGUGGCAUCUAAUCAAUUUUAAAAAUGACAUUGACACUGAAUACGAAAUUAUGAAUAAAAAUUAGUUAUGGUUUGGGAAACAAAAAUAUUAAAUUAUUCUGUAUGAUUUGGUAUUAGUUAUUAUUUUGAAUAAUAUUGUUAAUUUUUAAUUACAUAAAACUAUUGUAUGUUAAAUAUGGUUUUAAUUAUGCCUUGAAAUUUUAUUAUUAUAUUUCAACUACCAUAUAAUAUUUUAAUUAUGUUUAGCCAUUUGAAUAACAAACCAAAAAACUAAUUAAAAACUAAUUACUUCUUUAAGUAUAAUGGAAAUUAAAAGUUUUCAAUUCAUAUAAAUUUUAUUGUUUAUUAUCAAAUUAAUACAUUUUAAUAGAUGAUAAAAUAUAUGAGCAAAAAAGAAGAAACAAUUAAAGAGAAUGUUUUUGGAGUUUGGAAAAAAUUAAAGUGAAAAACAUACCUUCUAAUUUGUUGUCACAUAGAUCUAUUUCUUCGAGCGUAGUUGAAUAAAAAACACUUUCCGGAAUCAGCUCACUGAAUUGAUUUGCUGCUACGAAUUCUAAAGCUUGUAACAUUCACUUAUACUAGAUGGAAUGUUACAGAUAAUUCAUUUGUAUCCAAGUAAAGCCCCUCAAACUUGGGAAGAUGUUGACACAUAUCAUUAAGUAAACUACCUGAUAGGCUAUUGCAGGAGAGAUUAAUAGUCUUCAGAGAAGAAAUAUUGAAGAUAGAAGACGGAAUCUGACCUGUAAGGUAUUUAAUUACUGUAAUACUAAGCAUUUUCAAACAUUACUAAUAUAAAUAGUUCAUGGAAGUAAGAAAGUGUGCAUAAUAAAACCAAAUUGUAUAAAAAAUUUAAAAAAUUUUGAUUAAUCAAUAAAUUUAAGAUUUUAUAUAUUGAAGUGGGUUCAAAUCUCACUAUUAUUUUUUGUUUUGUUUUUUUUUUAAAAACCAAAGUACCUCAAAUAAUGUAACUAAUUUUAAAUACGAAAAGUUAUUUUUGAAAUUUCUCUAAUCGAGUUGGUGCUCAUUGACUCGUAACACAAUCCUAAUCAGAUACUUAAAUAACAAUAUAGAUAUUCACAUUCACCAAAAAAGUUCAAAAAAAUUGUUACUUUAGUUUCAAAUAACAAAUUUUAAUUAUUUAUAUAACAAGUAACUUUAUAAUUCAUGUAUAAAUUUGACUAUUAAGAAAAGAAAAAAUGAAAUUAAAUAAUGAAUAAUUUAAUUGAAAAUAUAUCAAUUUUUAUAUUUUCUACAUAUGCUUUAAUGAUGAUGGAUUUUUUUUAUUAUCACUAUUUUUGAAUUAAAAGAAUUUAUUAAUAUAAUUUAAUUAUAUUUUGAAUAAUGUUACUCUUUUUUAAUGACAUGAAGUAAAAUCAUAUUAUAUAUUAAAGAGGGUACAUAUGCUUUAAUUAUAGCUUGAAAUUUUAUUAUUACAUUUGAGUUAUUAAAUAAAUUAAUAUAUUUUAAUUAUAUUCAGCCAUUUGAAUAACUAAUUAGAAUAAUUUUAAAAAACAUUAUUUAAAAGCUAUGUAUAUAAAUGUAUAUGUAUAUAUAUGGUUGUUUCAUAUUUUUAAAAUAAAUAUAUUUUCAAUGUUGGUUUCUUUUCUUCCACACACAAAGUAUUUCUAAUGUUUUUUUUUUAUAACUUUUACUUAUAUAAAAUAGAUUAGUUAAUGCAAUAACAAAUUAAUUACUUUUUUUAAACUUAAUGGAAAUUAAAAUAAAUAAAUUCAUAUAAAUCUUAUUGUUUAUUAUCAAAUUAAUAGAUGAUAAAGUAUAUGACAAAAAGAAAAGGACAAAUUAAAUUCAAUAGAAUGUUUUUGGACUUGUGGAAAAUUUUAAAGUGAAAAACAUACCUUCUAAUUUGUUGUCAAAUAGAUAUAUUUCUUCGAGAAUAGUUGAAUUAAAAAUACUUUUUGGAAUCAGCCCACUGAAUUGAGUUGUUGCUAAAUUCAAAACCUGAAGCUUGUUACAUUCACCUAUACUUGAUGGAAUCUGACCUGCACACAUACUUGACAUAAGUCAAAGAGGUUUUCUUUUCUAUAAUUUGGAGAUGUUAUAUUUUAAUAUAUUUAAUCAUAUUUUUUCUUCAAAUUAACUAUUUUGAUUUUAAUGAAAUAAAAAGCUCUUACUUUUUCUUUUAUAAAAAAAAAAUACUUUAAACUAAAGAAACCAAAGAAAUUUAGUACCUUCUAGAUUAUUAAACACCAAAUAUAAAUGUCUAAGUCGUGUCAAGUUUCCAAUACUUCUUGGAAUGAUACCUGUGAAUUGAUUAAUGGACAGUGACAAAAUUUGAAGGUUGCAUUUGUCUAUACUUAAUGGAAUGUUACCAGAUAAUUCAUUCAAACUCAAGUGAAGCCCUUCAAGCUUAGGAAGAUGUUGACACAUAUUAUCAGGUAAUCUACCUGAUAGGAUCAAUAGCCUUCAGAGAAGAAAUGUUGAAGAUAGAAGAUGGAACCUAGACAGAUAAUUGAUUGAAUUCCAAGUUCAAGAUCUCUAGAUUGGACAUGUUAACAAGUGUUUGAUGGAUUGUGCCUGUAAAGUUAUUAUUUUUCAUUUCCAGCCUUUGGACUCUGUGUAAGUUCCCAAGCCAUGAUGGAAUUUCCCCAUUAAGACCAUUGUAGCUUAAUUGGAUGAUCCUCAAACGGUGCAACUGGCCCAAUUCUUUAGGCAGAUGGCCAUAGAAAUUGUUGCUACUCAAGUCGAGAGAGAGUAGGAAUGAAAGUUUUCCAAGUUGUGAAGGGAUAGUACCUCGAAGAUUCAUGUUUGUAAGAUUCAAAGCUACAACUCUUUCAUGGAUGAUGCCACAAGAAACACCAAUCCACCUGCAAACAGAGCUAGAGGCUAUCCAAUUGUUUUCCAAGACAUUGUGAGGAUCGACUCGAUCCUUAUACUCGAGGAGUGCAAACUAAUCGGUGGUGAGAUUCCUGGCUGUCAUAGCCAAACAAAGUACGGAACAUGGUACGAAUAGAGCUAAAAGAAGAUGAAAGCAAGUGGUGUAGUUUAUGAUUGCAAGACGGAAUAAGGCAAGAAAAUAAAAGAGUAGGAAAAGGGAAAUUGAAAUGAUAAAAUAGUUGGAUGAUGAAGAAAAGCCCAGAGAGCCUGCUUUAAUAUGUUUCAACCCUCCCACACUUCUCCUAAUUAAAUUCACUCGGCUGGGGUUACAACAUUAAUUUUCAAAAUAAAUGUCAAGUCUUCUUUUAAAACACAUCCAAAGAAGCGAAUUUUCUCCAAAAUUUCUUCACAUUACUCCACAUAAUCCAUAACAAAAUUAAUAAAAUAUAAUUUUUUAAUUACUAUAUAUUCUUUUAUUUUCUUCACAAUAAUAAGUUGGUUAAAUAUGCUAUUAAUCCCUGUACUUUUUAGAAUUUGAGAUUUAGUCCUUAUACUUUAAAAGUUAAAAAUUAAUUCAAAGAUAUUCUUUUUUCUAAACUGAGUGAAUUCACAAGCUUUGUUUUCCUUUAACAAAUAUUUUUGGUAUUUUCGUGGAUAUGAGGAGAUACUGAAAAUUAUUUUACUAUGAACUUUUAAUUCACUCAAAAAAAUAAGUGUUUUAUUUCAAGGGAACACAAUUAAACAUUAGAUUUCCCAUUUUUAUGUUUUGAAUAUUUUUGACAACUGCAUAAUCAACAAAGUAUCAAUUUUGGGCGUUGUGAGAGUUUUAUAACCUUCCAUAUGUGUAAUCGAUUUUUGAACCCACUUUUUAUUUUAGAAUUCAGGACAUACCUUAAAUUUUUCUUUUUAUAAGUUAUUUAAAAUCUAUUUGUAAAAAGCGAAUUUUUAAGUGACCGAUCACGCUUAACAAAAAUGAUUGGUGGCGACAAGUCCUUUUUGAUAAAAUCUUGUUCUUGGAAAGACCAAAGUUUUCAUUUUUUUAAGAAGUUUUCAAUUUAAUUUUCUUUUUGAAUUUUUAUUUUUAACCAGAAAAUGGUCCUUACAGUUAUUAUUUAUUUCCCAAUUUUUAAUGGUUUUUUUCAAGGAGAUGAAUAGUGGGAUGAAAAUUUUUGGUUAAGGUAAACUCAUUAUGUAUAGUUGAUUCUUUUUUGAUCCUUCAAUUAUUAAUUUUUUUGAUUUAAUUACAUAUUUUUUUAAAAAAAAAUUAACACUCUCUUAGUUGCCUCUUAAUUGAGGGACAAAAAACUUAGACAUUUUUUAAUCACAAUUAAUUUAAUUGCGUUUAGGAUCACAUAAUUUUCUUUUAUUCUUUUUAAAUUAUAAACUGUUUCAAAAAUUCCGUCAAUAGCUUAAGUGAAAUUAUCCUUUUUUGAAAUAUCAAUUUCACUUAAGCUAUUGACUUAAUUUUCAGCUAUUAGUCUUUUUUCCAAUCAAAUUGACUCUUAGCAGAAAUGCAAACUGCGCAAAAGAGUGUAAACAAAGAAGUUGAAUUUAAUUAUUUUCUGAGUCUAGUUUCAAAAGACAUAAUUAAUAAUAAACUUAUAACUAGCCUUAUUUAUUUAACAUGUUAAGAAACCUUUGCUUCAUUUUCUUGAACUCAACCACAACAUUCUUCCUAGCUUUUCUUUUUUGACGUAAUUCAGUUCAACAUUUCAAAAGAAAUUCCAUAAUCGAUGAAAUACAAUUUGCUUUAACAAUAAAUCUGCAUCCUCAAAGUCUAGUAGUCCUUCCAACAAUGAGCUUUGUAGGGCCCAACUUCUGCCCCGGGCCCAAAUAAUAAAAACCAAAAAUAAUCCAAAGUUAAACAGUCCAGUUACAUUAAACCCAAAUACAAGCCCAACUACCCAAACCCUAAGCCCAAACCUAAUAGCCCACAACAAACUUUCAAUAGCAGCAAAACGUGCAACACGCAACAAAAAGAAGCAACCAAAUCGCAAAACAACAAAAAACAGGCAUCAAAGAGUUGUUUAGAUCGGCUAUAAAGCCAAAAAUCAGAGACUUGUAGUUUUUCGGCUUCCUUUUUUAACACACAUCAGAAAUAAAAGAUCAUAUAAACUUCUAAAAGGUUGCUGUUCUUUCUUUGUUUUUCUUUUUAUUUCACUUAUUUUAUUUAUUUUUUUUACUGAUCCUUUUUUACAAAUAAAAAACGAUUAAUAAAAGAAAAACAAGAAAGGAAGAGAAGGGGAAUAGCUAGAAUCACCCGCAAGUCCCAUUGCCGGAGCCCUUUUGCGGCCACCGGAGUCGUGCUGGGAGGGUGCGGGGUCUCCUUUUCCUCUGGUCUUUGGGCCAAGAAAGGCACCGUCACCAAAAGGCCUUUUAAAUCGGUUUAAAAUAGACCUUCGGGUCGCAGGCCACCGCCCGCGGCGGAUCUAUGGCGGCGCGAGUGACGGCCAUGUUGGCCGAAUUUGGGGGGACCGAGAGAGAAACCUUACUCUCUCUGUUUUUUCUAGAAAAUUGAAGGAAAUGAUUUCUUUUUUAUUUUUUUUGUAUUUAUAUAUGCUAUAAUACGGCGUCGUUUUGGCCUUAGCAUCAGUGGCCAAAAACGGCGCCAUUUUGAUGUUUGACCCGCGACCCGACCCAGUAACGCUAAAGAUCCGCGCGUUUUCGUUUAAGGGUCUAUUUGUGCAAUAGGUCCCUCCACCUUUGUUGCGUGUUUCAAUGUGCUUUUUUUAUUUUUUUGAUUUUGGCCACCAGAUUUUUAUUCUGUUUUAAUUUGGUUCUGGGAUGCGCAGGCCCCAGUAUUGCGAACGGCCCCGUUCAGGUGGCAUGGGAUUAUUUCCCUUUCGACCCUACGUCUAUGUGCGCAUUUCGCUCAGGUCCUGAAUGUUCUUUUGUUUUUCAAAUUUUACCCUUUAAUUUUAUUUUAACUUCAAUUCGGUCCUUUAUCCUAUAUUUUAUUAUUUUGAAUGCUUACCUUGAAAUAUCAUUUAGUUUCCAAUUUAAUACAUAUAUCCCACAUGUUUUAUGAUCCAUAUAUAUUCAUACGUCUUUUAUAUUUUAUAAUUUUAAAAUUUGUACAUGCAUACGUAUAUUUUAUAAUUUCUAUAUGCGUAUAUAUAUAUCUACAUAUGUAUUUUUUAAAUUUUUUUUUACAAAUAUACACAUACUUAUACAUACUCUUUAUAUUUUAAAAUCUAUAUUUUUCUUAUGUAUUUUCCAUAGUUUAUAAUUCAUGUAUACAUAUUUUUAGAAAUUUUACAAUGCAUACAUGCACAUAAUAUAUAUAUAUGCGUUUUAUUUUUAUAAAUACAUAUACAUUACCUACCUUUAUAUUUUAUAUCUUCCAUGACUUUAUAUAUAUAUAUACAUGAAUGUACACAUACAUACUUACAUAUUUUUUACGUACAUAGAUUUUUCAUAUUUUCAUAAUUUUAUGCACACACAUAUAUAUCUUUUUACUUUUUCAUAAUUUUAUUUAUUAUUUAUUUAUUUCAUUUUUAUUAUUGAUUUGAGGAAAUGUUUUAAUUUUAUUUGCUUGUAUACAUUGUUAUUUCGGACGUUAUUGAUUUGUACUUUUUAUUUAUCUUAUAUUCGUUGCUAUUACUCGUAUUAUUUUUACAUCAUCGUAUUCAAUAUUGUUUUGUUACGAACAUUAACAUCGUGUUUUAUUUUUACUAUUUGGUGUUAGAUUAUUUUUAUUCAACACAUAAAUUAUGAUUUUUUGAAUAAGCAAAAUCUCGUGUUUAGAUUGGAGAAGGUUGUACCCUAACUUACUGGGUUUCGAUUUUCGCAAUGACUUUAAAUACGUGAAUCUUUUCAAACUCAAGUUUUAAAUGAUCUUGGGAUUUAAAAAAGAUCGUGUCCUAACUUACUGGGCAUGAAUCCUUUUUAAAAAAAAAUCUGAGAUAGCUAAAUAUCUUUUAAACAAGCAAAUUUUUAGCAUCCAUUCGCGUAUCGGGAAUUCGAGAUAUUGUGUCCUAACUUACUGGAUAUGAUUCUCUUUCUCGAUUAACGUGAAAUAUGCCCAUUUUCCCAAAAAUUUUCAACAUUUUAAUACAAGGAUCGUAUUUUUUAAAAUUCUUUAAAGUUUUCAAAUUUCGACCUCAAGACAUUAGCUAAUCAACUAGGUACCAAUUUUUGGGCGUUACGAGGGUGCUAAUCCUUCCUCGUACGUAACCGACUCCCGAACCCGUUUUUUGAAUUUUGUGGACCAAAAUUAUUGUUUUAAUAAAAUCUAAAUCGUUUAUUAAAAACAAUCAUUUUAUGAGGUGACCCGAUCACACCUCAUCAAAAAAAGGAUUGGUGGCGACUCCCAUUUUUGUUUUAUUUUUGAAAUUUAAGUCGACCCCGUUUUACCAAAAAAUGGUGUCAACAGCUUGGCGACUCCGCUGGGGAAGAGAUAUGUGAGUCAAGCCACGUGUUGAUUACUUUUUGUCUUUUUGUCGAAAAUCGAGAAUUUAAUUUAAAUUUACGAUCCGUUCAUUGCAUUUCAUUCGUCUUUAUUACGAUCUUCAUCAUUGUGGUUUUAUAGUUGUGUUGGUUUAAGUCUUGAUAUAUUUUUGCACAUUGCAUUGCAUGACCGUUGGUCACACCUUUUAAGUGGGAGUGAGAAGCUAUUUCCUUCGUGAGGUAUUCACCUCCGUGCAGGAUAGCUGAUCACUUUCGGGAUACAUCCGUACCUAUGUCUUUGUAAGAUUUUCAUCUCCGUGCAGCCAUAGGGAAAUGUAUUCCCCUGAACCGAACUCGGUCCGUAUGAGCCUAUAAUGGGUGAGGAUCGAGGAACCUACUGGUUUGGGUACCUUCGCUUUAGAGCCGAACCACAUGUAGUGAACCUAAGAGCCUACCUUAGGAAGAACCACUUCAAACCCCUAGUGGUCACCCGAGUAGGUGUUCUAUUUAUUCUUGCUUGCUUUUGCUUUGUACUAACCUGUUUUCUUUUGUUUUGAUUAUGAUUGCAUUGCAUUAUCAUCAUUAAAAAGAGGUGUUGAUUCACGUUCAGUUGCUAAAUAGAGAGCUUGUGAUAAAGUGGAUGACGAUACGAUUGUCCGAAUAUGGUCCAAGAAAACGUGAUAAGAAAAGGAUGAUAGUUUAAUGGAGGACUACAAGACUAUUGCUCCGUUGCCCAAGGAUUCAAGAUGACAAAGAUUAUUCGAGAGUCGCUGAACCUUCUUAAAAAGAAGCCAAUGAGCAUUACGAGGAUGAGUGAGCAACGAGUCGCGGCCUAGAUCAAGCAAAAAGGAGAUAGAAGAGACAUCUUUUUGAAGAGUUCGUGAAAUUUAUCUUAACGCUCAAAUGAAGAAAAGGAUCAAUUGUCUCCGCAUAUGAGGGCAAAGCCGUAUAUAUCCGUUACAGAGAUUUAUUUUCUAGUAAAGCUGUUCUAAUAGAGUUGAAUCAGAAUCAACAUCUCUUUUUGCAUUCAUUCCAUGCAUCUGUUUUACAUUUCAUUGCAUCAUUUGCAUUAAAUUUCACAAAAGAGCCCUACUUAAACGAGAUUAUUUCAGUUAAUCUGGAAACCAACAAGAAUCUACCAACCAAAUAUCACUAUGGUACCCGUCGCAAAACAAAAGUAAUGGAUUAGAGGUUAGAAAGAUUGGAACAAUUGCAAAAAAAGAUGCAAGAUCAGAUGCAGGAACGACUAGAUAAAAUCCAGCAAGACAUGCAAGAAUCCUAGAACACUAUGAUGAACAAAUUGGAGCAGUUAUUGGCUGGAAGGAAUGAUAAAGGAAAAAGCCCUUUAGUUGAUUCUGGAGUUGAUCAUGAGGACCCUAUUUAUCCUCCAGGUUUUACCCCAAUAGGCAUCCAGGCACAACCGGAUAUAUGCCCGCAAAGAGUACCUGUCAUUAUCAGACCUCAAUAUACGGUUGGUGCCUCAGUGCCAAUGCAUUUUCAAACGGGCUUGGGUUCUAAUCCCGGAGACAACCCUACCAAUCCUGUGGUCCCUAAUCUCGAUGACGUGGAAGAAAUAGAAAAAGCAAGAAUGGACCUGCCAAAACAACUUGACGACCGAUGUAGAUGGCUAGAGGAAAAAUUUAGAGCCAUGGAAAACACCGACUACCAUUGUGGAGUUGACGCCAAGGAUCUGAGUUUGGUCCCUGAUUUAGUGCUCCCGCCUAAGUUUAAGAUGCUGGAGUUCAAAAAAUACAACGGGACUAGUUGUCCUGAAGCUCAUAUCACUAUGUUCUGUUGAAGGAUAAUAGGAUACGUCAAUAAUGAUCAACUAUUAAUCCACUGUUUCCAGGAUAGUUUGAUCGUGUCUGCAGCCAAGUGGUACAACCAAUUGAGUCGUGCUAAAGUUAGUUCAUGAAGAGACUUGGCACAAGCUUUUAUGAAGCAAUACAGUCAUGUAACAGAUAUGACACCUGAUAGAAUUACGUUACAGAAUGUGGAAAAGAAGCAAAAUGAGAGCUUUAGGCAAUAUGCCCAAAGAUGGAGAGAGGUAGCGACACAAGUCCAGCCACCUCUUCUGGAGAAAGAAACCACAGUGCUUUUCAUUAACACUCUGAAAGCCCCAUUCAUUAACCACAUGUUGGGAAGCACUACUAUGAGCUUCUCAGAUAUGGUAAUGUCUGGCGAGAUGAUUGAAAACGCCAUAAGAAGUGGGAAGAUAGAUGCAAGGGAAGGUGCCAAAAGAUCAACCCCAAAGCACAAAGAAAAUGAAGUGAGCAACCUGAGCUUGUAUAAUAAAGGGUAUUCAAAAUUAGUCACUGUAGGCCAGCCAAGGACGGUAGCAGCUAGCUAUCAAGGCCCCUCAAAGUAAGAAUCCAACUCGAGGCCAAACACAGAAAGACUCGAGUUCACACCUAUCCCGGUGAUGUAUAAGGAGUUAUAUCAAAAUCUGUUUGAUGCGCAUGUAGUAGCUCCGUUCUACUCAAAACCCAUGCAACCUCCAUACCCCAAAUGGUACGACGUAAAUGCUCAAUACGAGUAUCACGUAUGAACUACGGGGCACUCGAUUAAAAACUACACUACAUUUAAAAAGUUAGUCGAAUGGUUCAUUAAUAUGGGCAUCGUGAAGUUUGACGAUCCAUCUGGACCUAAUGUGGCAGGAAGUCCGUUACCCAGUCAUCCAGACCCAGGAGUAAAUGCGAUAGCUGAGAAUGGAGGAAAAAAAACCAAAACAAAUGUUGCAGAAGUAAAACCCCCACUAAAAUGGGUUUUGAAACAAAUGAUGGACAUGGGAUUAAUCAUUCAGAAUUUGGAGAAGAGACCAAAAUGGAUGAGGAGCUACUGUGAGUUUCACGCUAAAGAAGGCCAUGAAAUCCAGGAGUGCACUGAAUUCAAAGCUUUGGUGCAAAGUAUAAUGGAUAAUAAAGAGUUGGAAUUCUUUGAAAAAGUCAAAGGCCUAGAAGAAAUGUUGGGAAAUUUAAAUGUUAACGAUGUAUCCGAAGAGGGAACUGAGGAAGAUAAUUUAUGAGGCAUCGGCCCUUAACGCAUUUGGGAGUGUUUUGAACAAUGAGAUUGUGGAAGAGAUCCCUAUAUUUUUUUAGAUCUAUUUCAAAGUAAUGUCCAAAACACGCUUAUUGCUCUAAGCCUAGGAGCAAUAAGAAUCCUUUUGUGAGAUAGACUUAUGUUCAAUAUCUUUAUUUUAAUAAAAUGCAUCUUUGUUUCUCACUUCGAGCAAAUAUUCCUUUAUUAUUUCCAUUUCAUUCAUAAUCAUACUGUACAGAUAAAUAUUCUUAGAUUCUUUUUAUUCUUUGGAUUUGCUUUCGUCCCUACAAUAGGUCUCCAGAUAUCAAAGAUAUGAGUGACACUACUACUGACUCAGAAUCUCCUUUGAGCAAGAUAUGUGUCCAGAUGAGCCUCAGGACUUUGAAGAUAACUGAGACUGUAACUUAUCCCCUGAUUUGUUAAUGAUGGUAGAACAAGAUCCUACCUUACAAAUAAUCAAUGGAAGUCUUGACCUUUCUCUAUGUGGGGUACGGAUGUCAUUGAACCAAUCUCGUCUAAGGUUUUGGCGAUCAUCAAUUCAUCUUUAUGGUCGUUAAUUACCUCACUAAGUGGGUAGAAGCUGCUUCAUAUGCCAAUGUCACAAAAAUGACGGUCAGUAAAUUCGUAAAAAAAGAAAUCAUAUGUUGGUAUGGGAUGCCGAAAAGGAUCAUAUCUGAUGAUGCACCAAAUUUGAAUGAUAGCACGAUAUCAGAAGUUUGCAGUCUGUUCAAGAUUAACACCAUGUCGCCCAAAAUGAAUGAUUCAGUGGAGGAAAAAAAAAGGAAACCAAACAAAAAACAAAACAAAAAAAACAAAAAACAAAAAUAAAAAAACAAAAAAUAAAAAACCUCUACCGGGGUAACUUAUUUCUCAUUGGUAUAUAGAAUAGAGGCAAUUUUACCCAUCGAAGUUGAUAUUCCUUCCCUUCAAGUCUUGUUAGAGCUGAAGUUGGAUGAAGCAGAAUAGAUCUAGGCCUGAUAUCAUCAGUUAGAUUUGAUUGAUAAGAAAAGGUUAAAAGUUAUCUGUCAUGGUCAAUUGUACCAAAAGCGAAUGAUGCGAGUUCACUAAAAGGUUCGCCCAGAGAAUUCCAUGAGGAGGACUUGAUAUCGAAGAAGAUCCUUCUCAAACAAAAGGACUUAAGAAGAAAGUGAAUGCCAAAAUGGAAAGGACCUUAUGUGGAAGGCCUUAUUUGAAAAAGCGUUGAUAUUGACCAAGAUAGAUGGUAAGAACCUGCCCAAUCUUGAGAAUUCUGAUUCCAGCAAUAAAUACUUCACUUGAAAAAAGAAACGAAAAGAAAAAAGAAAAGAAGAAGAAUGAAAAAAGAAAAAGGAAAGGCCAAGGUGAAAACCCGCAAAGGGCGCCUUGAGACCAAAGAGGUUUUGAAUUGAAAACCCAGGAAUGGGCAGUUCAAAUUUUGAUCAAAGGUGGGGCAUGCAGUAGUCUUGUCGUCUCUGAAUUAAUAAGAAGGAGAGAUGCUACAUCUUGGGGGCAUCAAUGAAGUCUUCUAGGACUUCUAAACACAUAUCAAGUUCAAAAGGGUCCUCAAGAAGUUUGGGGCAGAGAAGCUCAUGCCACGAUAUCUGGGGCACCUCUUUUCAUUUAUUCUUUUUGUAUUUGUGACAAAAUACGCCAUCUUGAUUAAUUUAUUCUCAUUUUGUAUUCUAGCAAAAUUUGCUAUCUUGAUUAAUUUAUUCAUUCAGAGCUUUGCUCUCAAUAAUUUUUCAUCUUAUCCAUUGUGAUAAUCCUUUCAUCUUAUUCAUCUCAUAUCUUAGCAAAAUUUGCUAUCUUGAUUGAUUCAUUCAUUUCAAGCUUUGCUCUCGACAAAAUUUUAUCUGGUCCAUUUUGAUAAUCUUUUUCAAGCAUUUUUCUUUGAAAUAACGAUUAUUGGACUGAUAAUGUUCAAGCAAAAGAAGUUUUGCAUAUUACUCUGAAAGCUUCUAAAUAGUACGAGGACCUAAAGCAGGGCUAUUGUUUAGAACUAACCAACUUAAGGGUUAGAAGCAUUGGAGAAAGAAUAAUCUAAAUUGCGACUAUUUCUUUGGUUUUUCUAUCAAAGAUACCACUGAAUAAGAAAGCAUCGGUGAUAAAACCUUGAUGAACAAUAAAGAAUGACAAUCUAAGCAUUAAAAAUGGAUCAUUCUCAUGACAUUCUACAAAUAUCAUACAUACACAUCUAGUUAGGAGCAUUUUAUUCAUUCUAAUCAUGACAUCCUAAAUGCUAGGCAUAAAUAGGUAUAUAAAAUGGAUUUUACAGGUCAUGUUCCCCAAGGAACAGAUCAAUGAAGUUACCCAUACCCCUGAAGUUGCAGUGGGAUGGAUUGAAGUCAUCAUAUCCAACAUUAUCUCCCUGAGCAACAGUGGAGAAGGUUGAAGAAAGCAAGUCUUGUCUUCCUGUAUUGGCAGCGAAGUAGACUGAAGAUAGCAGAUCUUGUCUUAUUGUAUUGGCAGCGAAGUAGACUGAAGAUAGCAGAUCUUAUCUUCCUGUAUUAGCAGCAAAAUGGAUCAAAGAUAGCAGAUCUUGUCUUUCUGUAUUGGCAGUAAAGUGGAUCAAAGAUAGUAGAUCUUGUCUUCCUGUAUUGGCAGCGAAGUAGAUCGAAGAUAGCAGAUAUUAUCUCCUUGAGCAGCAGUGGAGUAGAUCGAAGAUAGCAAGUCUUGUCUUCCUAUAUUGGCAGCGAAGUAGACUGAAGAUAGCAGAUCUUGUCUUCCUGUAUUGGCAGCGAAGUAGACUGAAGAUAGUAGAUCUUGUCUUCCUGUAUUGGUAGCGAAGUAGAUCGAAAAAAGUAGAUCUUGUCUCCCUGAGUAGCAGUGGAGUAGAUCGAGGAUAGCAAGUCUUGUCUUCCUGUAUUGGCAGCAAAGUAGAUUGAGGAUAGCAGAUCUUGUCUUCCUGUAUUGGCAGCAAAGUAGACUGAAGAUAGUAGAUCUUGUCUUCCUGUAUUGGCAGCGAAGUAGAUCAAAGAUAGCAGAUCUUGUCUCCCUAAGCAGCAGUGAAGUAGAUCGAAGAUAGCAAGUCUUGUCUUCCUAUAUUGACAACGAAGUAGACUGAAGAUAGCAAGUCUUGUCUUCCUGUAGUGGCAGUAAAGUAGACUGAAGAUAGGAAGUCUUGUCUUCCUGUAUUGGCAGCGAAGUAGACUAAGGAUAGCAGAUCUUAUCUUCCUGUAUUUGGCAGCAAAGUAGAUCGAAGAUAGCAAGUCUUAUCUUCCUGUAUUGACAGUGAAAUAGACUGAGGAUAGUAGAUCUUAUCUUCCUGUAUUGGCAGCGAAGUAGAUCGGAGAUAGCAAGUCUUAUCUCCCUAAGCAGUAGCAGAGCAGACAGAUGAAACCAAUCCUAUCUCUCUGAAGUUGCAGUGGAGCAGAUUAAAAUGAUGAAUCAUAUGCCUCUGAAAUUACAGUAGGUCGAAUUAGAUCAUAUCACAUCAAACCUUAUCUCCCUGAAGUUACAGUGGAGCAGACUAAAACCACGAAUCUCAUCCCCACGGAUUUACAACAGAGUAGAUUGAAGUCAUAUCUCUCUGAGGAUGCCGUGAAGAGGAUCAAAGUCAUAAGGCGCAGUGGGCUAGAAAGAGACUACUUGAAGAAGAGGAGUAUCAAGAGAUCAAGAUUCGUGCGACCAUUGAACGUAAAAUCAAAAUGCUUAAAGUGUAUGGAGAUUCCGCGUUGGUGAUAUACCAACUCAAAGGAGAGUGGGAAACCAAAGACCCUAAAUUGAUCAAUUAUAAAGAACUGGUUCUUGAAUUGAUUUACGAGUUUGAUGACAUCACCUUCAGUUAUCUCCCAUGAAAGGAAAACCAAAUGACUGAUGCAUUGGCUACUCUAGCUUCGAUGAUUCAGGUGAACAGGCUUGAAGUAAUGAAGCCUAUUCAGAUGAGUAUCUACAAAACCCCAGCUCAUUGCUACAAUAUUAAGGGGAAGGGAAAAGACAAUCACCCUUGGUAUCGGAGUAUCCUACAGUAUGUGAAGAAUCGGGAGUACCCUAGCCAGGCAACAGAGAACGACAAGAGAACUCUGAAAAGAAUAGCCAUCGAAUAUAUCUUAGAUGGGGAAGUGUUAUACAAAAGAAGGAAAGAUCAGGUAUUGUUAAGAUGUGUAGAUGCCGUAGAAGCUAAGAAAAUUUUGGAGGAAGUCCAUGAGGGUAUCUGUGAGACGCACGUCAAUGGCUUCACCAUGGCCAGAUAGAUCAUGAGAUUUGGGUACUAUUGGUCCACUAUGGAAGGGGAUUGCAUUAAUUACGCCAAGAAAUGCCAUAAAUGUCAAAUUUAUGGAGACAAGAUGCAUCCCCCCUUCGCUACUUCAUGUUAUGACCUCUCCAUGGCCAUUUUCCAUAUGGGGUAUGGAUGUCAUUGGGCCGAUAUCGCCAAAGGCUUCUAACGGGCAUCGUUUCAUCUUCAUAGUCAUUGAUUACUUCACUAAGUGGGUAGAAGUUGCUUCUUAUGCAAAUGUCACGAAGUCAGCAGUUAGUAAAUUCUUGAAAAAUGAGAUUAUUUGUCGAUAUGGAAUGCCUGAGAGAAUCAUAUCCAACAAUGCGCUGAAUUUGAACAAUAGCACAAUAGCAGAGGUUUGCAGCCAAUUUAAGAUCAAGCAUCAUAACUCAUCGCCGUAUCGUCCAAAAAUGAAUGGUGCAGUAGAGGCGACCAAUAAGAAUAUUAAAAGAAUUGUGGGGAAAAUGACUGAGACUUACAAAGAUUGGCAUGAGAAGUUAUCAUUUGCUCUCCUUGCCUAUCGAACAUCUGUUAGAACUUCUACUAGGGCAACACCUUUUUCUCUAGUUUACGGAAUGGAGGCAAUAUUACCCAUCGAAGUUGAAAUCCUCUCUCUACGGGUAUUAUCCGAACUCUAGUUGGACGAGGCUGAAUGGGUCCAAUCUCGUUAUGAUCAGUUGAACCUAAUAGAGGAGAAGAGAUUAAAAGCUAUUUAUCAUAGGCAAAUGUACCAGAAACGAAUGAUGUGAGCCUAUGAUAAAAAGGUUCACCCCAGAGAAUUUAGUGAAGGAGAUUUGGUGCUAAAAAAGAUUCUUCCUAUGCAAAAGGACUUUAGAGGAAAAUGGAUGCCAAAUUGGGAGGGUCUUUAUGUCGUAAAGAAGGCCUUUGAUGGUGGAGCUUUGAUUCUAAGUGAGAUAACUGGAAAAGACUUGCCCAAUCCCGUAAAUUCAGACUCAGUCAAGAAAUACUUCACUUGAAGAAAAGGGACCAAAGUGAAAACCCGCAAAGGGCGCUUUGAUCCCUAAAAAAAAAGAAAUGAUGAUGAUAAAAAUGGAGAGGCUAAGGGGAAAACCCGCAAAGGGCACCUUAGGCCAAAGGGGAUUUGAGUUGAAAACCCGAAAAGGGCGGCUCAAAUGUUUGAUCAGAAUGGGACAUGAAAUGCUUAGAGCAGCUGGUAUCUUGAUCAGAUCGGGAUGUGUGGCAAUCUUGCUAUGCCUGAAUUAACAAGAAGGGAUAGGCGAUAUCUUGGGGCAUUGACAAAGCAUUGAAGAUCUCCUAAACACAUGUCAAACUCAGGAUGGCCUUUAGAAAGUUUGUACAGAGAAAUUCAAGCUGCGAUAUCUGGGGGAUUUAAUUCCCCUAUUAUUUUGUAUAUAUUGAAUUUUGUUGAUUCUUGGAAUAUUUUCUUUCUCUUUUCCAAGAUAUAUAUUCCCAAUCAAUUUCUCUACUAUUUGUGAUGACUUAUUUAUUUUUAGCUAUGUUCAGAACCAAAUUUAUUCUUAUAUAUUGUUAUGACCUUUUCUGCAAACAUGUUACAUUAGAAUAAUGAUUAAUGGACUAAUAAAACUUUCACAAAAGAAGUUUUGCAUAUUACUCUGAAAAGUUCCUAAAUAAUACAGGAGCCUAAAACAAGACUAUUGUUUAGAACACACCCAAUUUUAAAGAUUGGAAAUUUGAGAAGGAGUUUAAAUUUGGACUUUCUCUUUGGAUUUUGUUGUCAAAUGCAUUGAUUGGCAAGAUGCCAUGUUGAUGACGAAGCUUAAGUAAACAAGCAAACAAUGAUCACCAGGCAAGAGGAAGAGGUUACUUUGAAAAAGCCUUCAUCUACACAUAAGUUUCUAGUAUGACACCUUCAAAAUUGUGUGAGAAACCAGAACGAUUCAGAUCCUAUAUCCUUGAAUUGUGGGGAUUGAGGAAAAGCCACAUAUUUCUACCCUUGGAUUACAAUGGGAAAGUGGUGGUACAAUUUUUUUGCGCCCCAAUGGUUUAAACUUUAAGGUUCACAGUGGGGGCAAUCUGACUAAGUGAUUCUUUGAAGAAGCCGGUCAAGCGAGGAGGCGUUACAGCACAUCAGUGUUAAAGCCUUAAUAAAUUUCGAGUAAUAAUAACCUAAGCGGGAUCAUUCUCAAAAAAUAAAAUUCUGCAUUCAUGCAAACACUAUCCACACAUGUCUAUUUAGGAGCAUUCGAUUCAUUUUGAUCAUGCCAUCCUAAUCAUUAGGCAUAAUUAGGUUCAUUAUACAGGUCAUGUUCCCCAGAGAAUAGAUCAAUAAAGAUCGAAAACAAAGCCUUGCCUCCAUCGGUUGCAGUGGAGCGGAUUAAAAUAAAGGAUCUUAUCUCUCUGAAGUUACAGUAGAGUAGAUCGCAUCAGAUUGAAGCCAAAAAUCUUAUCUCCCUAAGAUUACAGCGGAGCAGAUUGAAGCUAGAAAUUCUAUCUCCCUGAGAUUACAGUGGAGCGGAUUAAAAUAAAGGAUCUUAUCUCUCUGAAGUUAUAGUAGAGUAGAUCGCAUCAGAUUGAAGCCAGAAAUCUUAUCUCCCUGAGAUUACAGUGGAGCAGAUUGAAGCUAGAAAUCCUAUCUCCCUGAGAUUACAGUGGAGCAGAUUAAAAUAAAGGAUCUUAUCUCUCUGAAGUUAUAGUAGAGUAGAUCGCAUUAGAUUGAAGCCAGAAAUCUUAUCUCCCUGAGAUUACAGUGGAGCAGAUUGAAGCUAGUAAUCCUAUCUCCAUGAGAUUACAGUGGAGCGGAUUAAAACAAAGGAUCUUAUCUCUUUGAAGUUACAGCGGAGUAGAUCGCAUCAGAAUGAAGCUACAACAGCAAAUCUCACUACCCCGACCUCACAAUUAAGCAGAUUAAGGUUACGAGUUACAAAUCCUAUCUCCCUGAUGUUACAGUGGAGUGGAUCGAAGCACCAAUUCCUAUACCUCUGAAGAUGUAGUAGGUUGAAAUGAGUCAACUCGAAGAAGAAGAGCACCAAGGUCCAAACACGACUGGGCAAAAAGGGGCUUUAGUCUUUGCACCGUUCCCGUUACACGACAACAAGCAAAGAGGGGUAGCUGUAAUAGCCCAUUUUUGCCCGGGCCCGUAAUAAGUAAACCAAAAUUAAAAAUUAAAAAUUAAAGUCCAAAAAAUAAUAAUAGAGUCCAUUUUUUACAAUAGGCCUAAUAGCCCAAAUCCACUACCCAAACCUAAUUAGCCCAAAUCCACUACUUAAACCCAACUAGCCCAAAUGCCCAUGACCGAACACUAAAUCUGAUUAGCCCAAUUACAGUGGCCCGACACCUAACCCAAAACCCGAUUCAGCCCAAUUAGCCCAUUUUGAAAAAGCAUUCCAGAAAUCACUAGGGUUUCUAGAACCCUUCAGCCGCCAUUGCCACGCACGGGCUCCCCUUCGAGCCACUCCUCACGCGCGUGAUGCCUUCGUACGCCACGCAUGCCUCCGUACGGCCACCUCUGUACCUCUAGGCUGGCCGAGUACCUGCAAAUACAAGCGAACACACGGAAGCAGCAACAAAUAGAAAAACAACAGCAUUUUUAUUUUAUUUUUUUAUUUUCUGUAAAUGGGGCUAUAAAGAAGCCAUUCGAACACUGUAAACGAUUUACACGCAUUUUCAGAAUACAGAAAUCAAAAAAAGUUCCAAAAGGUGAUUUUCGGUUCUCUUUUCUUUUUCGCAGAUCGUUUUCCUUCUUUCCUUUUGUUUUUACAUACAUUAGUCAUCUGUUAAAGGAGAAAAGGGGAACCAAAAGGGAAGAGGGGCAUACCUGAGGGCCGGAUUUUUGCUCACUCCGCAGCCAUCGGAGUUGGGGCGAAUAUUGGGAGUCUUUGGAGGCAAUGAAUCCCCAGAGCGGCGACGAGCCUUUCUUUUUGUUUAGGUUUUGCUAAUGUAAACCCUAGGUUUUAGGAUUUAUUUAGUUUUUAAGUGCAUGAAUUAAAACGACGCCGUUCAGAGUCAAUGCAAUGGCACUGAAAUGACAUUGUUUUGGAGACUCAACCCAAACGAUGACCCGAUCCGGGAAGGAUCCGCACAAUAUGGGUCGAAUGGUUUAUUUGCUAAAUAGGUCCCUGUGUGUUUAUUGAGAUUACGUUUUGUUUUUUUAUUUAAUUGUAAUUUGUACGGCACAUUUAAUUUUGUUUCCAUUCAGAUCCGACUUGAUACGGUACCGUUCUGCGGUUGAUUGUUAUUGUUUAUAAUGCUUGCGUUUAAUUGUUGGUUUAGUCCUCCAAGGUUAAAAAGGAUUUCGAUUUGAUACAAAUUUAGAUUUUUUUACUCAAAAUGCCUUUAAUUAUAAUUAAUCCUACUUUUAUAAACGGAUUUCAUUAUUGUUUUAAUUUUAUCUAAGCUUCGAUUUUUAAAAGAAUUUGUUGAUUAUUAUUUUCAAUGUCAAAAAAUGCCUUUUAUGUUAAUUUUGAUUUAAAAAGUUUUUUUUAAAUAAAUCAAUUUUUAAUAUUACUUUAAUAGAUAUUUUUUUCAAAUUUAUUAUUAGCACAAAUUCUAUUUUUUAAAAAAAAUAUAAUAAUAAUAAUAUAUUUUUUAAUUGUUAUCAAUAUGUUUUAAAUGUAUCAAUAUUAUUUAAAAAUACAUAUAAUUUAAAUUAGACUAUUUUAGUAUAUAUGUACAUAGGGUAUAUCGUUAACUUCAAAUUAACCUUUUAUUCACAUAAUUUUUUAUACAUAAUUGUUUUAUUUCUUAAACCUUAUUUAUUUUAUUCGUUUUGGUGGGUUGUCAAAUUAUUAAUAUGGAUGUUUGUAUAAUAUGAUUAAGGUCAAUGUUAGUAUUUGCCUAUUAUUUGUUUAAUUGUUUCUAGUUUAAGUUUAAAUUGUUAUUUAUAUUUUGCAUUACAAGUUGUUAUUCAAUUAUGUUGGUUGUAAAAAUUUCAUUUCGUUAAAAUAUUAUAAUCGUUUCAUUUCAAAAGUUCAAAAAAGAGGCUUGGUGUUAAAUAAUUCUCGAGAGAAUUGUGCCCUAACUUACUGGGCCUCAAUUCUUCUCGAUGAAUUUAUAUCAUCAAGUAUCCCUUUCUUUAAGACAUUUAAAAAAAAAUUCUUUAGAUUUCAAAAUGUUGGAUCCUAACUUACUGGAUGUGACAUUUUGUUAUCUCGUUUUUAAAUAAAGGAAAUAUUUGGUGUUUAAGGAUUUUAAGAAAAUUGAACUCUAACUUACUGGGUUUUGAUUUUCUCGAUCGAUUUAAAUAACCAAAUAUCCUUCUCAAAAUGUAUGAAUUUGUUUUAAAUUUUAAAAAGGGACGAAUCUAACUUCGAAGAUUGAAUCGUUGCACUCUAACUUACUGAAUAUAACGAUUUAUUUCUUUAAAGUAGGUAAGUCUUAUUUCCCAAUCCGAUUACUCAAAUUUUCUUUUCAAAGGAUUGUAUUUUAAAAUCCUUUCAAAGUUUCGACAUUAAGACAUUAAAUAAUCGAUUCGGUACCAAUUUUGGGCAUUACGAGGGUGCUAACCCUUCCUCGUGCGUAACCGACUCUCGAACCUUAUUUUUUUCAAAAUUCGCAGACCUAAAAUUAUUUUCAAGGUGAUCUGAUUACACCACAAUAAAAUAUCAGUGGCGACUCCCAUUUCCGUUUUCAUUUUAAAAGUCGAUCCCCGUUUUUUUAAAUUUCAAAAAAAAUGGUUUCGACAAGAAACAAAUGAUUCAUUAUAUAUAUAAUAUAAUUAUGAAAUUCAAGCCAUAUAUUUUAUGUUUCAUACAUAAAAAUUUCAUGGGAGGCCCAAAGGUAAUUAAAUGACUUGUAGGCUUGCUGAAUUUCUUUGAAAGGCCCAAAGGCAAUUUAACAUUCACAAAAUAAUCUCUAAAUACUGUAAAGACAAAUCAAAUCCACAGUAGCAUAAGAGUUGAUUAAGCUAAGCAUUGGCAAAUAUUACUAUGAUUUUGCAUGCAAUAUUGGCAAAACCUCCUCUUACAUUAGAAAAACAACAUAAUCCAUGAAACAUUGAUAGCCCAAUACAAAUUUCAUCGACAUGAAAGUCUCUUUGUUUUGUAGAACAUGAUAGUAAAGAUGUGGAGUUUCAUUCUUCUUAUUGGCCUCCUUUAGUUUUCCUUGAUCAACAACCACUAGCCAAAAACACAAUUAGAUUACAUUAUCAAUGAUACUCUCAACUAUGACAAUAUUAAAUACAAAACACUCUAAAUAACUCUAAAUAAAUGGAAAGCAGCAAAAUUACCUGACGAGACAAGCUAGCUCAAUUAAGACCAUUGUGUUAUACUUGUCUCUGAAUUGAAAAUUUUAGAAGGAAAUAAAGAGAAAGACUUAGAAAAUACUUGAAAACAGGUAAAACUUAUAUGUCAUUUAAAAUAAAAAAUUUCUAUAUAAGCCAUUUAAAAUUUUUAAGAUUUUUAAAAUUUUAAAAUGAUAAAGGUAAAAUUGUACUUUGGCAUCCCAAAAAUGACAAAACUUUGAUUUAAUUCUUUAGAAAUUAUAAAAAUAUAGGCUAUUAAAAUGGUGAAAUUAUAUUUUUACUAUAGUAAAAAAUUACAAUUUAAUUUCACCCCUAAAAGGACUUUCUCACUUCGCCCCUAAUAAAAUCUUUUGCAAAAGAUUAAAAUAAAAUUAUACAUAAGAAAAUCCAAUCUAACAAAGAAAAUAACUUCUUGUCCAAAAGCUACCAUAAACCGUAAUUCAUGGGAAGGCUUGUUGCUUAUUUUAUUGGUUUCCAUUUCGAUUUUGCAAAAGAAGUUUGAAUUUUGAAGAGAGCCUACUACGUGAGAGCAAAAGAAAAAAAAAGUUUAUAUGAUUAAAUUCCAGAAUAGAUUAAAAAUGUUGAAUUAAAGAUAAAAUUAAGUGUGAAUUAAAAAAAUUUCUAUUUAGGCCCUUUAAAAUUUUAAAAUGAUAAAGAUAAAACUGUACUUUGGCACCCAAAAAAAAUAAAAUUUUAAUUUAAUCCUUUAAAAUUUAUAAAAAUAUAGGUUAUUAAGUGUGAAUUAAUAACCACAAGUGUAUUCAUUACUCACCAUCUCUGUUAAAAAUGUUGGAUGUUGUUUAGCAACCUUUGUUUGAUUUUCUUCAGCUCAACCACAACAUCUUUCAUAUCUUUUCUUUCUUCUGGUAACUCAGCUGAACAAUUCAAAGCCAACUCCAUGAUAGAUGAAAUACAAUUUGCUUUAACAACAAUGUACUCAUCCUCUCUUCUUAAUAAAUCAACAUCUGCAAUUUCUAUCGCUCCUUUAGGCAAUGAUCUUUCCAUCCAAUGCCUUAUACUCUCUUCUUCAACAAAAACAUUAUCAGUUGGCUUUUUCUUUGUGAAAGUUUCUAUAAGGACGAUCCCAUAACUAUAGAUGUCAGAUUUUAUAGAAACAAUUCCUACUGAUCCAAAUUCUGCAUUUCAAGUAUAAUUAGAACAUCAUCAAUCCUCAAUUAUUUCUAAAAUGCUUAUUCAAAUAUAUAUCCACAUCCACAUGAAACAAAAAUAUAAAAUGCAUAUUAGGAAAAUAAUCAUACAAAAAUAAAAAAGAAUUCACCUGGUGCUAUAUACCCGAUAGUUGCAAGAGUCAUGGUUUGCUUCAUUACUUCACCUUCCCCCAACAAUUUGGCAACGCCACAAUCUCCAACAUGUGCAACCAUGUCUUCAUCUAGUAAAAUAUUGCUUGGUUUUAUGUCACAGUGAAUUAUAGGUGUUGGAUGUCCAUUGUGGAGGUGUUCUAUGGCUACCGCAACAUCUAUCAUUAUGUCGACCCUUUGUAUGAUAUCAAGGAAACAAUUUUCAGAAUGUAACCAUUUCUCAAGGUUUCCAUUAGACAUGUAAGCAAGCACCAAGGCUUUGAAGUCAACACUUGAGCAGCAAGUAAUGACCUUCACAAUAUUACGAUGAACUAUAUUACGCAUAGCAUCACAUUCAAUGUCAAAACUGCUAAAUGCUCCCUCUGUUUGCAAAUUAAAAACUUUUAUUGCAACUUCCAUUCCAUCUGAAAGCCUCCCUUUAUAUACAUAUCCAAAACUCCCUGAACCAAGCAUAUUGCUUUCCUCAAAUCCAUUAGUUGCUCGUGAAAGCUCAGCAUGUGAAAUUCUUCUCGGUGUUAUCAAAGACAACAAAUCAUCUUUAAUUGGUAGACUUGUACUCCUUCUUCGGCAUCUUCUAUACAUAAUAGUUAAGACUAUUAGUACUACGACAAUACCAAUUGUUGGUAAACCAUACCUAAAAGCAUGCAAUAUAAUCAUUUGGGAGUUUUUGUGGAUGUCAUUUUUGCAAGGGGGGACUAGCAAUCUAGGUGGACCACAAAGUGCAUAAUUCUUCAUGAAUGAUGUGCUAGAAAAGUUUGAAAAACAUCCUUUGCUUGGAAUUUCCCCUUCAAGUCUAUUGAAAGACACAUUAAAAUACUUUAGAUAUAAAAGCUUUUCCAAAGAUUUGGGAAUGACUCCAGAGAGAUUGUUAUUGCAUAAAUCCAAGAAUUCCAAACUAAUCAACCCAUCAAAUGAUUUAGGGAUAUAACCAUGUAGUAUAUUAUUUGAUAAAUCUAAUGAAACCAAAGUUUGAAGACCCCCAAAUGAGGAUAGGAUAUCGCCCGAGAGAAGAUUCCUUGAUAAAUUUAGUUUCAGUAGACUCCUCAAAUUUCCAACAUCAAUAGCAUGUGAAUUCUGAAGAUGGUUUGAUGAUAAAUCUAUUUCUAAGAUAUCUUUAAGAUUCCACAAAGUUGAGGGUAUUGUAGAACUCAAUUUGUUGGAAUUUAAGUAAAGAUAUCCCAAAGAAGUAAUAUUACCCAAACAAGAGGGUAUGGAUCCAUGCAGCUUAUUCAACCCUAAAUACAUCUCGUAUAGUCUCUCCAAAUCACAAAGGCUUUCUAAGAUGUGCCCUCCUAAUUUAUUAGAGGAAAGAUCUAGAGCUUGGAGAUUUCGCAGUCCUCCUAUUGAUGCUGGAAUGAAUCCACUUAAUUUAUUAUGGCGAAGUUGUAAAAGCAAUAGGUUGGUUAUGUUACCUAUUUCCAUAGGAAUAAUGCCUUGAAGCUCACAAUUAGAGGCAUAAAAGUAUUGAAGGGAUUUUGAAAGGUUCCCGAUAUAAGUAGGAAGAACGCCACUCAAUGGAUUUCCUGAAACUCCUAUGGUUUUCAAAUUCUUACAAUUCGUCAAAGAAGAAAGAAAGCUCCACUCAUGAUCAGUAGCAGACCCUGUGAUCAAAUUAUUGUUCAUGAUUUGGAACCAUUCAAGGUGUCUUAAGUUGCCAAGCGUUUUAGGGAUUGGGCCAGAGAAUAAGUUAUCUUCCAAGUCUAGUAUCUUAAGCAUGGAAGCAUUGGAGAUAGAGUUGGGAAUGUUUCCUCUAAGUUUAUUUCCCCACAAUGCAAGAAUCUCAAGCUUUGGAGCAUUGGUGAUGGGUGGUAAAUUACCUGUAAAAUAGCAUCUUUUAGUAUACAUAUUCAUUGAAUACCAAAUUCACAAAAUAUAUAAUACAUUAAUAAUAUGAAGUUUCGAGUACUAAUUAGUCCUUGUGAUUUGUAUAGAAAAACAUAUAAUACGCUAAUAAAUUUUUAAAAUAUUGUAAAACUUGAAAUAAAAUAAAAAUAAAAUGUUGGUAUGAGAAUGUGGCAUCUAAUCAAUUUUAAAAAUGAGACUGACACUGAAUAAUAAAUAGUUAUGAUUUGGGAAACAAAAAUAUUAAAGCCAUUGUUUAUCUUUAUUAAAUUAUAGUGUAAAAUUUAAAGAUUACUAUUUGCUCAAAAUUUUUGUAUUUUUCGUAUAUUUGAAAUUUAAUCUUUAUAUUUUUAUUUUCUGUGAUUUAGUCUCUCUACUUUUUGAAUUGAAAAUUUUAAGUUUAUUUAUUAAAACUGUUAAGAAGUUUUUGGGUUAGUAUGGCAUUUUGAAAAAUAAAAUAAACUUGAUAUCUAUGUUUUUAAUUAUUUCAAAUAAUGUUUUACUAUUCCAAGAUAAAUUAUUUGUGUCUAGACCAAUAUCUUAAGAACUAUUGUUGCAUGUUUAAUUAUUCAAAAGAAUUGUUGAUUGAGUCUUAGCUUGAUUGACAUGUGUAUUGUUACCAAUGUAAGAGAAUGUGGGUUCAAGUAUGCUAAAGUGCAUUAUCUUCUUAUUUAUAAAUUGGGGAGUUGGUAAGGUAUUAAAUUUUGAUAUAUUUUAAAAUAUUAAAAUUUUAUUAAAAUAUUUUUUAUAAAAAUUGAUUGCACCACAAUAUACAAUUUUAAUAUCAAAUUUUUAAUUUUUUUAAAAAAUAUUAGCGACUAUAUACUUUAUUUCAAGUUACACAAAUUUUACUAGUUUUUAACUUUUUUUUAAAUAUUUACCGUCUUUUAUAAUUUUUUACAAUAUUUAAAAAUUUCUGCCAAUUUUUAAUAAUUUUAUUAUUUAUUACAAAUUUAAAAAUUAACAAAUUUAAAAAUUAACAAAUUUUUAUUUUUUAAACAAUUAUAUAUUUAUAAUGUAGUUAUUUUUUAUAUAAUUUCACUUUAAAUUUUAAAGAUUUUUUGGGUUUUUUUUUAGAUGAUGAUGCCGUUAUGAUGUCAUCAUAUACCACAUGGCAAUUUAUGAUUAGUUGGAUAUCUCAAUCUAUUUUUUAAUUUCCAAUGGACUAAACCAAGAACACCUGAUAAUGUUAGAGACUACACUAGCAAUGUUUGAUAAUAUUAGGUACUAAAGUGGGCAAAAAAAUAUUAAGAACCAAAGUAAAAAAAAAAAAAAGAAGAAGAAGCAAUAUGCUGUAGAGAAUAAACUAUGCAUUAAGCCAUUAAAAAUAUAUCUAUAAUAUAUAUAAAUGCAUGGAUUUUGAGAAACUUUUGAAGUGAUAAUUAUAUAGUCUUUGUUGUUUACUAUAUUAUUGAAUUUGUUAUUUUAAAUAUUUUUUUAUUACUUUUAAGAUUUAUUGGAUAAGAAUUUUGGUUUUUACUAAAAUAUUUGGUUAAAUAAAUUAACUUCAUAAGAAAAUUUAGCAUCCUUAUAAAUAACAAUUUUGAUUCUAUUAAAAAAUUAUUUUAAAAAGCAUAUAAUAAAAAUUUAAAAUUUAUAUUGAAUUACUUUAUACUUAAAUUAUUAUUAGAAAUUUUAUACUUAAAUUUAUGAGAACCACAAAUUUAGAACUUAAAUUUGUGUUUUAAAAUAACUUAUGAUAAAUAAUGAAAUGUAUAAUUUGAAACUAUUUAAUAAUAACACAUGGCAUAUCUACCAUAUUGAAAUAAAAAUAGAUUAAAUUGUAAGUAAAACAUAAUUUAAGCAUAGGUAUACAUCAAAUUAAGAAUACUAAAUGAAUACAGUUAUUUAUGAUGAUGUUGUUGUCAAUUCCUAAGUUGGUGUCGAGUUAAUUUGUGACAUCAUAAAUUUAAGUGAUAAAUUUAAGGUUUUACGUAUUGAUGUGGAUUGAAAUAUCACCAUACUUUUUUUAAAAUAAAAAACUAAAAUACCCUCAAAUAAUAUAACUUAUAUUAAAUAUGAAAGGGUAAUUUUGUAAUUUCUCUGACUGAGUUGGUGCCAGGUUGACUCAUGACACCAACUAAAUCGAAAGCUUCAAUAAUAAUAUAGAUAUUCACAUUAAAAAAAAGUACUUUAGUUCCAAAUAAUUAUAUAACAAGUAAAUUUAUAAUUGACGAAUAAAUUUAUAGAUAAUAUAUUUAUAUGAUCUAAUAUAUUAUAUUUAUAUUAAUUAUAUAUCAUCUACAAACUUUGAAAAUCAAUUUAUUAAGUAUCAGGAAAAGAAAAAAAUGAAAUUGAAUUAACACUAAAUCAAUUUUUGAAUUAACAAAAAAUUAGUGAUAUAUUUUAAUUAUAUUUAUUAUUUAUUUUUUUAAUAAUAUUUUUUUAAUUAUAUGAAGUAAAAUUAUAUUGUAUGAAGUAAAAAAAAUAUAUUUUCCGCAUUGGUUUCUUUUAUUCUACAGACAAAGGAUUUCUAAUGAUUUUUUAAAAAAAAAUUACUUAUAUAGAAUAGAUUAGUUUAUGCAAUAAAAAAUAAUUUCUUUUUUUAAAGUUUAAUGGAAAUUAAAAAAUUAAAAAUAAAUCAAUUCAUAUAAAUCUUAUUGUUUAUUAUCAUAUUAAAAUGAUAAAAAGUAUAUGACCAAAAUAGAAGAAACAAAUUCAACACAAUGUUUUUGGAGUUUAUUAUCAUAUUUCUAAUUUGUUGUUAAAUAGAUCUAUUUCUUCCAGCGUAGUUGAAUUAAAAAUAUUUGAUGGAAUCUGACCUGCACACAUAGUCGAAAAUUGAAGUGAAAAUUAUAUCUUCUAAACUGUUCAACUAAAAAUACUUUAAGCAUAUUUUUUAAGGUUAUUGCAUUUACCCAUGCCAAAUGGAAUGCUACCAAAUAACUCAUUGCUAUGCAAGUAAAGCCCUUCAAGCUUGGGAAGAUGUUGACACAUAUCAUUAGGAAAUUACCUGAUAGGCUAUUUUUGGAGAGAUCAAUGGUCUUCAGAGAAGAAAUGUUGAAGAUCAAAGUUGGAAUCUGACCUGUAAGGCCUUUAAUUGCUUGAAUAUUAAGCAAUUCCAAACCAUGAAGAUUACCAAUUUCCUCAGGAAUUUGACCUGCACACAUAGUCGAAAAAUCAAGGUGUCAAACUACCUAUUUUGUUAGCAUAAGUCAAAGAGGUUUUCUUUUCUGUUCUAUGGUAAUUUGGAGAUGUUAGAUUUUCAUAUAUUUCAGCAUAUGUUUUUCAUCAAAUGAAAUAAAAACUUUUUCCUUUUGUUAUCUAUUACAAAUCAAACUCUUUUAUAAAAAAAAUACUUAAAAUUCAAGAAAUCAAGGAAAUUGAUUACCUUCUAGAUUAUUAAAUCCCAAAUAUAAUUCUCUGAGUUGUGUCAGAUUUCCAAUACUUCUUGGAAUGAUCCCCGUCAAUUGAUUCAAGGACAAGGACAAAUUAUUAAGGUUGCUGCACUUGCCCAUACUUGACGAAAUGUUACCAGAUAACUCAUUGCUCUGCAAGUAAAGCCCUUCAAGCUUGGGAAGAUGUUGACACAUAUCAUUAGGUAAACUACCUGGUAGGCUAUUGCUGGAGAGAUCAAUGGUCUUCGAAGAAGAAAUGUUGGAGACCGAAGUUGGAAUCUGACCUGUAACGCCUUUAAUUGCUUCAAUAUUAAGCAAUUCCAAACCAAGAAGAUUACCGAUUUCCUCAGGAAUUUGGCCUGCACACAUAGUCGAAAAAUCAAGGUGUCAAACUACCUAUUUUGUUAGCAUAAGUCAAAGAGGUUUUCUUUUCUGUUCUAUAGUAAGUUGGAGAUGUUAGAUUUUCAUAUAUUUCAGCAUAUGUUUUUCAUCAAAUGAAAUAAAAACUUUUUUCUUUUGUUAUCUAUUACAAAUCAAACUCUUUUAUAAAAAAAUACUUAAAAUUCAAGAAAUCAAGGAAAUUGAUUACCUUCUAGAUUAUUAAAUCCCAAAUAUAAUUCUCUGAGUUGUGUCAGAUUUCCAAUACUUCUUGGAAUGAUCCCCGUCAAUUGAUUCAAGGACAAGGACAAAUUUUUAAGGUUGCUGCACUUGCCCAUACUUGACGGAAUGUUACCAGAUAACUCAUUGCUAUGCAAGUAAAGCACUUCAAGCUUGGGAAGAUGUUGACACAUAUCAUUAGGCAAACUACCUAAUAGGCUAUUGUUGGAGAGAACAAUGGUCUUCAGAGAAGAAAUGUUGAAGAUCGAAUUUGGAAUCUGACCUGUAACGCCUUUAAUUGCUUGAAUAUUAAGCAAUUCCAAACCAUGAAGAUUACCGAUUUCCUCAGGAAUUUGACCUGCACACAUAGUCGAAAAAUCAAGGUGUCAAACUACCUAUUUUGUUAGCAGAAGUCAAAGAGGUUUUCUUUUCUGUUCUAUAGUAAUUUGGAGAUGUUAGAUUUUCAUAUAUUUCAGCAUAUGUUUUUCAUCAAAUGAAAUAAAAACUUUUUCCUUUUGUUAUCUAUUACAAAUCAAACUCUUUUAUAAAAAAAAUACUUAAAAUUCAAGAAAUCAAGGAAAUUGAUUACCUUCUAGAUUAUUAAAUCCCAAAUAUAAUUCUCUGAGUUGUGUCAGAUUUCCAAUACUUCUUGGAAUGAUCCCCGUCAAUUGAUUCAAGGACAAGGACAAAUUAUUAAGGUUGCUGCACUUGCCCAUACUUGACGGAAUGUUACCAGAUAACUCAUUGCUAUGCAAGUAAAGCACUUCAAGCUUGGGAAGAUGUUGACACAUAUCAUUAGGCAAACUACCUAAUAGGCUAUUGUUGGAGAGAACAAUGGUCUUCAGAGAAGAAAUGUUGAAGAUCGAAUUUGGAAUCUGACCUGUAACGCCUUUAAUUGCUUGAAUAUUAAGCAAUUCCAAACCAUGAAGAUUACCGAUUUCCUCAGGAAUUUGACCUGCACACAUAGUCGAAAAAUCAAGGUGUCAAACUACCUAUUUUGUUAGCAUAAGUCAAAGAGGUUUUCUUUUCUGUUCUAUAGUAAUUUGGAGAUGUUAGAUUUUCAUAUAUUUCAGCAUAUGUUUUUCAUCAAAUGAAAUAAAAACUUUUUCCUUUUGUUAUCUAUUACAAAUCAAACUCUUUUAUAAAAAAAUACAUAAAAUUCAAGAAAUCAAAGGAAAUUGAUUACCUUCUAGAUUAUUAAAUCCCAAAUAUAAUUCUCUGAGUUGUGUCAGAUUUCCAAUACUUCUUGGAAUGAUCCCCGUCAAUUGAUUCAAGGACAAGGACAAAUUUUUAAGGUUGCUGCAUUUGCCCAUACUUGACGGAAUGUUACCAGAUAACUCAUUGCUAUGCAAGUAAAGCACUUCAAGCUUGGGAAGAUGUUGACACAUAUCAUUAGGCAAACUACCUGAUAGGCUAUUGCUGGAGAGAAUAAUAAUCUUUAGAGAAGAUAUGUUGAAGAUGGAAGAUGGAACCUGACCAGAUAAUUGAUUGAGUCCCAAGUUCAAAAUCUCUAGAUUAGAUAUGCUAACAAGUGUUUCAGGGAUUGUGCCUGUAAAGUAAUUAUUUUUCAUUUGUAGCCUUCGAACUCUCUGUAAGUUCCCAAGCCAUGAUGGAAUUUCCCCAUUCAGACGGUUGUAGCUUAAUUGAAGGAUCCUCAAACGAUGCAAUUGGCCCAAUUCUUUAGGGAGAUGGCCAUAGAAAUGGUUGCUACUCAAGUCGAGAGAGAGUAGAAAUGAAAGAUUUCCAAGGUGUGGAGGGAUAGUACCCCUAAGAUUCAUGCUUGUAAGAUUCAAAGCUAUAACUCUUUUAUGGAGGAUGCCACAAGAGACACCAAUCCAAUUGCAAACAGAGGUUGAGGCCGUCCAAUUGUCUGCCAAGACAAUUUGAGGACCGCCAAUACGAUCCUUAAACUCAAGAAGUGCAAACUGAUCGGAGUUGAGAUUCCUGACUGUCAUAGCCAUGCAAAGUACGAAACAUGGUAUGAAUAAAGCUAAGAGAAGAUGAAAGCAAGUUUUGUAGUUCAUGAUUGCAAGACAGAAUAAGGCAAGAAAAUAAAAAAAGUAGGAAAAGGGCAGUUGAGUUGAUAAAAUAGUUUGGAUGAUGAAGAAAAGCCCAGAGAGCAUGCUUUAAUAUGUUUCAACCCUCGCACACUUGAUAAACUUGAUAAAAAUAUUUUGAUCUAAUAAAUGUAAAAAAAAAUUAAACAAAAUAAGGUUGAAAUAAUCUAUUUGUCCUUAUAUUUUGAUAAAGGUUGAGAUUAGUCCUUAUACUUAAAAGGUUAAAAAUAAAGUUUUCUUGUUUUUAUUUAAAAAUCUUAGUCCUAUCGUUAAUUUUUUUUGGGCAAAAUUUGUCAACUGGACAUAUUAAUUUGGUUUCCCUUAUAUGUCGUUGUAUAUGACUAACACAAAAUAAGCAAGUUGACAAAUUAUGACAAAAAAAUAUCAAAGAUGAUAAUAAUUUGAUUAAAAUUUUUAAAUUGAAUUAAUAACCUUUAACAUAUAAGGAAUGGAUAUCAAAUAUUUAUAGGAAUAAAGGGACAAACAACAUAUUUUAACCACAAAAUAAUAUGAGUGAUUAGAAUGAAUCUAAAAGAGACUAACAACAUAUUGAUAACUUUGAAAUCUCCUACGAUCAUCCUUUUUCUACGUAGAAAAAGAAAAUUAAUUAGCAUCUAAAGUGUCAAUUAAUGAAACCUUCAAAAGAAAAUGUGAAAGUGAUUUACCAAACAAUAAUAUUCUAACUUAUAAUAUAUUUAAUUACAUUUAGUACUUUAUCAAUCAAAACUUAAUUAACAUCCAUCAAUACUUCAUACAUAAGUAAAUUUACCAUUUAACUCAGAUUUAACUUUGCAAGUAAACUUGAAAUUUUAUUUAAUUUUGUCACUAAAUUUAAUUUGCUCAAUAUAGAUUUUGGUGACUUAAAACAAAAUUAAUAAAAAAUUAUUCUUUCAGACAUCUUUUUAAUGUUUAAUAAUAAGUUAAUUUAUAAAAUAUACUUUCAUUGGACACAAGCCUCCAAGGCAGUGAACCACUAAUCAAAUUAAUUUGGAGAUAUCUUUUUUUUCCAAAUAAAAUGGAUAUCAAGAGAUACCAAAAAUUAUUUCACUAAGAAAUUUUAAUUCACUCGAAAAGUUAGUGUUUUAUUUCAAGGGGUCAUAAUUAUAAAUUUUGAACUUUUUGACAAUUGCGUAAAUAAUAAAUACCAAUUUUGAGUGCUGUAGGGCUAGGACAAUCUCCCUUACACAUAACCGACUCUUGAACCUACUCUUUUCUCUAGAAUUCAACUCAGACCUCAAAUUUAUCUUUUGAAAAGAAUUUUAAAAUCUUUGUAUAAAAGGUGUAAAAAUAUAUAUUUUAUUAAUUACUAUAUAUUCUUUUAUUUUCAGAAUAAUAAAUUGUUUAAAAUAUGCUACUAGUCCCUAUAAUUUAAAAGUUAAAAGUAAUUGGGAUCUUGAGUGCAUCAAAUUCCUCCUUUUAUUAUUAAAUGUUUUAUUUUAGUUACUCUAAUUAAAUAUAUCCAAAUUGUAAUAAACAUUUAUUAUAUAAAAAAUAUUUUAAAUUUAUUUCAAUUGCAAUUUAAUUUUAGUAGAAAUAUUUCAUUUAUAAAAUCAUAAAAUUUUAAAAUAUUAACUUUAUUAAAUAAAAAAUAAUUUUUUUUAAACAGUAAAUGUUGACUUUAUUAACACAAAUGGGUCUUUAGGGUUAAACUUCAGUAACUGACGAGCUCUUCCACAAACUGUGGAUGAUUUGGGGAUAAGAACUUCAAUAAUUCUAGAGUUAAAGUGUAAAUUUACUACUAUAUUAUAAGUAAAUAUUGAAAUUUAUCACUAAAUUUUAAUUGAUACUUGUCAUUACACUUUGAAAAUAUAAGUAAAUUUACCAUUUAACUCAUAUGUGAUUGAGCUUUGCAAAUAAACUUAAAAUUUUAUUUAAUUUUGUCACUAAAUUUGAUUUAUUUAAUUAAAUUUACAACUCAAUAUAGAUUUUGGUGACUUGAAUUAAAGUUAAAAAAAAAACUAUUCUUUCAAAUAACUUUUAAUGUUUACUAAUAAGUAGAUUUAUAAAAUAUACUUUCAUUGGACACAAGCAUCCAAGGCUGUGAACAAACCACUGGUCAAAUUAAUUUGGAGAUAUCCUUUUUGCGUUUUUCUUUUUUUUUAAAUAUUUUUAAUAUUUUUGUGGGUAUCAACAGACACCAAAAAUUAUUUCACUAAGGAAUUAAUUUGUAUUUUAUUUUAAGGGUUCACAAUUGAACAUUAGAUUUUUUAUUUUUAAAUUUUGAAUUUUUUGACAGUUGCGUAAUUAACAAGUACUAAUUUAGGGUGUUGUAGGGUUAUUACAACCUUCCCUACACGUAACAGACUCUUGAACCUACUUUUUUUUCUCUAGAACUCAACACAAACCUUAAAUUUAUCUUUUUAAAACAAUUUUAAAAUAUCUUUAUAAAAGGUUAUUUUUUUACCCAUCACACUUAACAAAAUUUUAAAAAUUAUUAAUUUCUUUUUGAAAUUUAAAGUGAUCUAAAAAUAUAUUUUUAAGUGCUUUAGACCCUGCGGUGCUGAUUUCUUUAUUGUAUUAAAUGCUUGCAAUCACUCCUGAUAUCUUAUACUUGAGUUGUAACAAAACCAAUUAUCAUGUUCCAUAAUGUUCUAUUGAUGCUGAAACUGAAGUUUUUGUUAUAUUAAUAGAGCUUGUCCUUCAACACGUAUAACGGGUGUUUGUUAUUUUUUUCUUCAAAUUGUAUGAUCUCAUUCAUUAAAUGAAUUAAUGAAUUUCCCUUUAAAAAAUAUAAUUUUAAAAAUUAAAUACUUUAUAAGAUAUUUAAAACUAUUUAAAAAUUGUAAGCGUUAAAACAAUCAACAAGAUAUAUUUUUCUUUAAAAAAUCAAUAAAAAUAUGUUUAAAAUUUUAUAUGAAAUUUACAAUUUUUUAACAAUAAUAUAUUUUAAAAUUAUUUACACCUUUUUUAUAUAUUUUUCCUAACAUAUAUUUUCAACACUAUCGUAAUCCUGUUUUGAUAACUCCCUUUCCAUACAUCCUUUUUCUACAUAGAAUUUCGAAAGAAAAUGUGAAUUAAUGCAGACGUGAGAAGACUUAGAGGUAAGUCACCCAAUGAAAGUGACCUACUUAUGGAAAAAUCAAACAAUAAUUUUGUAUCUUAUAAUAUAUUAAAUUACAUUUAUGAGGUUAUCAAUCAAAACUUAAUUAAAAUCCAUCAAUAAAGUUGUUGAUUGUAUAGCUAAGGCAGAUGGAGGCAUAAUUGAGCAGUUAGUUAUCUUGGAAAAUCCUCCGCAUUAUGUGAGAUGUUGGCUUGAAGAAAAUAUUAGACAGUCGUUGGUCACUGAUGAUAAUUUUUAUUUGGAUUGAAGCUGGCUUAAUUUUCUAAGUUUAUGUUCAACUAGAAAAAAAAUGUCUAAAUUGUAAUUGAAUUAACAUUUAGUGUAUAAAAAAUAUCUUAAAUUUUUUUUUUCAAUUGCAAUUCAAUUCCACAAAUACCGACGAUGAACCCUAAAACGGACAUGAAAAUUACAAAAAGAAAAAAAGCACAUCUAUUAUCAAACCAGCAAUACAUGCCUAAACUAAUAGAGAUGAACCCUAUGAUAGAUUGUGACCCCCCAAAGUCGACCGGGAUAGACCAGCCUGAAUUCAAAGCAUUACAUUAGCCACCUAAAUGACUCUCCAGCUAACGACCACCCAAGGCACACCCCAACCUUAUAACACCUCAAUUUUAUCUAAUUAUUAGUUAUUUAUUAAUGCCAAAGUAAAUUAUGAGCCAAUUUUAAACUUUUCCUAAGUAAUUUAAUCUAUGGGCAUUUACGUUAUUUUACCACCUAUGGUAAAACUAACUUGAUUUUAGAUCUAAGUGUUUACUCACCUUCUUUUAGUCAAAUUAUGCAAGUCUAAAAUUUCCAGGUGAAUUUGAGUUUGUUUACUAUGUCUAAUUCAAGUUUUAUUAUUUAGGAUUAAAUUGUAACUUAAACAAAUUCGAAUACCAAUUUAAAGAGGCAAAAAUUCAAAACCCAAAACAGACACAAGCAUGUGCGUAAAUGACACGGGCGUGUGAAAACUGGAACUAUCACAUACGGACGUGUGGGAUUGAAAAAUAUAAAAUAAAUUAAUCCACUCAAUUUUCCAAUAGCCAUGCUAUACUACCAAACCAAAAAAUGCUUGAAGCUUUGAAUAGGGGUGAAUCUAAAAAAAAAAUUAGAAGAAUUAGAAUUAAAUUAUAAUCUAAAAAAAAUUAGAAGAAUUAGAAUUAAAUUAUAAAACUUUGAGAAGUUAAAAUAUAAUUUUAUCAUGUAUUAAUUUAUUAUUUUUAAAAUGGUCUUAAUUGAAUUUUUUUUUCCAUUUUUGUUGGGCCAAUACCCCUGCUUGCCUCUUUGAAUUUGCUCCAACCCUAAACCCAAUAAUCAAUUUGGAUUAACAACAAUAUAUAGGUUAGUAUUUGUGGGAGUUUGACAAUAAAAUUUUUUUUAAAAGGUUUAAAUUAUAAAUUUUUGAAAGAUUAAAAUAAAUUUGUAUUUUUUAUUAACAAAAUAUAAAAGAAAAAAACAUGUUUAGACAAGCCAAGAGACCUUUGGGAUCAUACGGGUGAUUUUGAUGAUGUUAAUAGUUAUUUUGGUGGAGAGGCUGAGAAAGAAACAAAUGAUUCAUUAUAUAUAAUAUAAUUAUGAAAUUCAAGCCAUAUAUUGUAUGUUUCAUACAUAAAAAAAAUUGGAGCAAUUUAAUCCCUAUCAAUUUUGAAAGUGAGCAACUAAGAACAAUGAAUUAUGGUGUUUCCUUCUUAAUUUCACAAUUGCGCAAAUUAGUCCCUCUCAAAAAAAAUUGGAGCAAUUUAAUCCCUAUCGAUUUUGAAAGUGAGCAACUAAGAACAAUUAAUUAUGGUGUUAAAUUCUUCCAUCAAUUGUACAUAAUUUUGAUUGGUAUAGUAAUAAAUUUAGCCUUCAAUGUUUAAAUAUUUUGUCAUUUUGGCCUUAAUUUUUUUUUAAAAAAAAUUCAAGCAUUUCAACCUCAACAUUUAGAUAUUUACACAAACGUUGCGGGAAAUUUUUGUUAAAUUUAGACCAAAUUGCAAGUAUAAAUUUUGAAGGCUAAAUUUAUUAUUAUACCAACCAAAAUCAUGUACAUUUUAUGGAAAAUUAACAUCCUGAUUAAUUAUUCUUAGUUACUCACUUUCAAAAUUAAUAGGGACUAAAUUGCUCUGAUUUUUUAAGGGUGACCAAUUUCCUCAAUUUGGAAAUUGAGAGAGACUAUUCAGAUAUUUUACAUAUUUUUUUAUAAAUAUAUUUUUUUAAUAUAAAAUAUAUUUGUUCACACAUAUUGUGAGUAUGAUAAAAUAUUUUUAUUAUUGAUUGAGUUGGUGUCAAAAAUUAACUCGACACCAACUCAAGAUUAAUAAUAACAAUAUGAUAAAUAAUUUAUUUAUUUAAUAUUCUUAAUUUAACAUAUUGAUGUAAAUUUUAAGACAUGCAUGUCUUGUAGAAUUGAGAUUAUACUAUUUGAGUAUUGAGUCAGUUUUCCACAAUGGUGGGUCUCGAGCAACAGCACAAUUUCAACAUUUCUUCAUCUCGCUUAAUCCAAAUGCAUUUAGGAUUUUUUUUUUAUAUCAUUGUUUCAAAAACGAUAAAAAAAAACGUGGACAUUGAAUUUUCUGUUUCACAUUCAAUUUUUGGAGAAGUAGAAUUUUCUAACUUAUUUUCCAUCAACUUCACUUCAAUUUUCAAUCACAAUCUAUUGUAUUCAAGAGUACCACAUCUUUUUGGAUGAAACAAACCUCUCAAUCUUAAGAUAAACGGAAUCUAUUGCAUUCAAGAGCACCACAUCUUUUUGGAUGAAACAAAGCACUCAAUAUUAAGAUAAACGGGUCUUUAGGGUUAUUAACUGAGGGCAUUUUCCACAAAUGGCAUCGUUAUUUGAAGGUGAUUCGGGGAUAAUAACAUCAACAUUUCUGUAUCACAUUUAAUUCAAUUCCACAUUUAACUUUUAAUUUUUGGAGAGAUGAUUGGGCUACAACAAUGGUUUGAAGUGAAGAUAUUUCAAAAGAAGGCAAAUAUAUCAAUUUUUUUAAGGGGUCUUUGGAGUUAUAUGUGACUUUAGCAUUAUUGACCGAUUUUUUUAUGGUUAAUCUUUUAUAAUAAGGUAAAUAUAUCAAUUUUAAUAACAUCGGCAUGUUUUUUAGUAGGGUCGAGCAAAACCCAAUUAAAACCUUUCAUCACUGCAAAAAUGAAAAUAAUAGAAAUGAAAGACUAGCCAUUGUAUGAGAUUUAUAAUUGUAACUGUCAACGAAAUUGGGAGAAAUUUUUAAAUUUUAUGAAAUUUUAAAAUUUAACUGUCAAUAAUAGAAAAUUGCCUGAGUAACUUGAGAUAAGAGGUUGAACAUUUCUGGAUCACAUUACAUUUAAGAUGGGUCUUUAAGGUUAUACUUUAGUUAUUGAGAACAUUUUCCACAAGUUACCGUCGUUAUUUGUGGGGUAAGUGGUUGAACACUUCUGGAACACAUUGCAUUUAGGACGGGUAUCAUUCAUAGACUGACUUUUCUAUAAUUAGUCCUUGCUUUACUUUAGGUGGAUUCUUCCAACUAGUCCAAGAAUUAUUGUACAGUUACAAUUAAUCUUUUUAAAUGAGACAAACAUUUCAAAUUUGUCGUUACUAUUUGUGAGUGAUUUGGGGGUAAGAAGUUUAACACUUCUGGAUGUCUUAUAGAAUUGUGAUUAUACUUUUUGAGUAUUGACUCAGUUUUCCACAAUUGUGGGUCUCUAUUUGAGCAAAACAAUUUCAACAUUUCUUCAUCUCGUUUAAUCCAAAUGCAUUUAUGCAUUUCUUAUAUCAUUGAAUUUGCUGUUUCCCAUUCAAAUUUUGGACAAGUAGAAUUUUCUAACCUAUUUUCCAUCAAGAAUUUUCUAACCUAUUUUCCAUCAACUUCACUUGAAUUUUCAAUCACAAUCAAUUGCAUUCAAGAGCACCACAUCUUUUUCGAUGAAACAAAACUUUCAAUUUUAAGAUAAACGGGUCUUUAGGGUUAUUAUUCAUUUAUUGAGGGCCUUUUCAACAAUUGCCAUCAUUAUUUGUUGGUGAUUUGGGGAUAAUAACUUGAACAUUUCUGGAUCACAUUGAAUUCAAUAUUCUUAUACAAUAGUAUUUUAUAUAUAUACGUACAUAAUUUAUAUUAAACUAUUUUUAUUUUAUAUAUUAUUGAUUUCGUAUUAUUAUAACUAUUGACCUUAUGUUUAUAUGUUUUUUUAAAACCUAUUUUUUACAUAUACAAUUUACUUCUUUUAAAAAAACCCUACUUCAUAUACUUGGUUUAUUUCAAAUUUCUACAUAUAUUAUUAUGCAUAUAUAUAUAUAUUAUCAUUUGUAUUGUUAUUAAGCUUUUCAUUUCAUAUAUAUUAAUUAUUUAGGUUAAUACAUACAUUAUUUUGUACAUUACCUAUUUUGAUUUUAUUCUUAUGCAAAAUUUACUUUAAAAUUUGUUUACAUAUUAUUGUUUCACAUAGUAUUUAUUUUUAACUCUAUUUUUGGUCUAUUUCGAAUUUUCAUGUACAUUAUUUAUUUUUAUACUUUUUGGAUUUACAAUUUCCUUUCUUUCAUGCCAUUUUUUAAUUAUUUCAAAACUUAUACAUUGGAUUUGCAUUUGUGUUAAUUUGUUUGCUUUUUAGGUUUUACUAGCUUUUAAAUAUGGAUGUUAGUAGUUGCAUAAUGUGUAAUAUAAGAUUGUUGCCCUUAUGUAUGUUGUAUUGUUUAUUUGUAUUUUAUUGAUCCUUUGUUGCUCAUUAGCUUACAUUUAGCUUACAAAUUGUAAGUGUAACUUUUGAGGGCUAAAUUUAUUAUUAUACCAACCAAAAUCAUGUACAUUUUAUGAAAAAUUAACAUCUUGAUUAAUUAUUCUUAGUUGCUCACUUUCAAAAUUUCUCUGAUUUUUUUUGGGUGACCAAUUUCCUGAAAUUGGAAAGUGAGAGAGACUAUUGAGAUCUUUUACGUAUAUUUUUUUAUAAAUAUAUUUUUUAAAUAUAAAACAUAUUUGUUCACACACAUCAUGAGUGUCGAAACCAUUUUUUUAAUAAAUGGGGGUCGACUUUUAUUUUGAAAAUGAAAAUAAACAAAUGGGACUCGCCACUGAUCUUUUGUUUAGUGUGAUCAGAUCACCUUGAAAGCGAUUUUGGUCUACGAAAUUUGAGAAAACAGGUUGGGGAGUCGAUUACGCACGAGGAAGGGUUAGCACCCUCGUAACACCCAAAAUUGGUACCUAAUUGAUUAAUUAAUGUCUUAAUGUCGAAAUUUUAAAAAAAAAAUUUAAAAUACAAUCCUUCUAUUCAAAUGAACACUUGUAUGAAUCAGAUUGCGUACUAAGACCCUCUUGUUUUGGAGAAAUAGAAUGCCACACACAGUGAGUUAGGAUAUGACAUUUUCACAUCUUCCAAAAAUGAGCUGGCCUUUUGAUUUUUUUUUUUAAAAAAAAAACUCUUGCAGUGAAGUUUAAAAAAAGGAUACUCUAUUGUUUUGGUUAGAUGAAAAUAAAUGAAUAAAUGAAUAGCAUACAAGAAAGGAAAUUUAAAAUUAUCAAUACAUAAACAAUAAAUUAUAUGCAUUAACUUUUAAAAUAAACAAUAUAUAUACGAGUUUGAAAUAGAUCAAAAAUGAAGAUAAAAAAUAGAUACUAUAUGAAAUGAUAAUAUCAAAAUGAAUUUUAAAGUAAAUAUUGAAUAAAAAAAAUCAAAAUAUGUAAUAUACAAAAUAAUAUAUAUUAAUCUAAAUAAAUAAUAAAUAUGGAAUGAAAAAUUCGAAAUAGAUAAUACUAUAUAUAUAUAUAUAUAAAUAUAUGUGAAAAGUCGAAAUAGGUAGAAUAUAAUAAAAUAGGUUUUUUAAAGAAAUAAAUUAUAUAUAUAUGGAAAUAGGUAACAAAGAUAUAUAUAACAGCAUGAAAUCAAUAAUAUAUUAUAUAUGCAUAUAUGUAUAAUAAAAAUAGUUUAAUAACACUUGUAUAUAUAUGUAUAAAAUAGUAAUAUGAAAGAGCAUUAUCGUAUAAAUCUUUAAAACAAAGAAGUAUAUAUAAGUGCAUUUUAAAAAUGUAUUUAAAAUAAAACCAUUAAAAACGUAUAAAUUAUAUUGAAAUUGCAUAAAAAGUAUAUAAAAUAAUAGAUGGAAAUUAAAAUAAUAAUAUAUGAUAAAUUUUAAAAAAAAAGUAAUUAUACAUGAAAAACUUAGAAUAAUAAUACAUAAAAAACUUAAAAUAAUAAUACAUGAUGAAUUUAAAUAACAAAUACAUGAUAAAUUUAAAUAAUGUUAAUGAUAAAUUUAAAAUAAUAAUAUAUUACAAAUUGAAAUAAUAUUGAUGAUAAAUUUAAAAAUAAUGUUAAGCUUAAACAUAAAAAUAAUAUUAGAUUUAAAAUUAAAUAUAUAUUUUUUUAAAAAUAACAGGAUAAUAAAUAUUUAAAAAAAUUGAACACGUUAAAUUAAACAAAUACGGGUUAAAUUGUAUUUAAUACAAAAUUAAAAGAAAAAAUGAAAAUAAAAUAAAAUAGAGGGCCAAAAUGCAGCACACGAAUAACAUGGGGGACUAAAUGGGGAAUAUUCCCUGCCCACCAAAACGCUGUGUUGCAAUAUGGAUCAAAAUGAACAGUAUUCAAAUUAAACGAGGUAAAUUUAAAAAUAAAAAAUGAAAUUAAAAUAGUGAAAGAAAAUAAAAGGGUCAAUGGUGCAAAUAUCCCCUUUUAGACCCAAAACACGUGGAUCUGACCUUGCUCGAGUCGGGUCAUUAGAUCUCUUAAACCUAAACCAUUGAAGCAAGGCCCAAACGGUACCAUUUCAUGGUCUUCUUAAAACAAAAACCUAAACCACUAUUUGGUUGUUCUUAAAUCAGAUUAGCCAAAACCCUAGCCGCUCGAAUGCUUUGCCGAUAUUCAACCUUACAGUCCUCGCUUGAGCUCCGAUUACGACAAAGUGAAUGGGGAUACAAUGGCGCUAUCUUAUAGGUAAAUCCCUCUCCUCUCAUUCAUUUCUCUUUCACAAACAAGUAUAACAAACAAAGAUUGAGGAAACAGAAAAGAAAAAAGAAAUCUAAAGAUAAAGAAAUGGGAUUUUUUUUCAUAACGGCUAAAUCAUUCAACUCAUAGUUUUUGUUAAAUGAAGAGGUCAAUUGAUUUUUUUGGAAUCAUUGAGUACUCAAUUGGUGCACUUUUUUCAUAAAGGCUAAAUUAAUUUUUUAAUUUGUUACUGUUGAGGGCUAUAGCAAUAAAAAAAAUUGAGGUAAAAUGGAAAAAAUGUUAGAGCUAAAUUUAUCACUAUGCCUAAAACCAAAAUUUUUUGAAAAUAAAAAAAAAUGGAAAAUCACAAAUUUUGUCACUUAUGUUAGCUUAAAAUUAUAGUUUUGGUCACCAAUCUUUUGAAGUAAAUAUCUGGUCAACAAUAUUAUCCAUUUGUUACUUUGUAAUAACUCACCUUAAAGUUAUAUCCCUGCGCAAGAAAGGAUUAAAUGACAAACUUGUAUCUUUUUUUAUUCAUCCAAUGUCAUUUCAACAUUUUCAUUUAAAAAAAUUGACAUAUCAUUUUGAAUUCCAUCUUUUUCAUGAUGAAACUAUUGAAAUGAUGUUAAAUUACUGGAAAGAGAUACAAGUUUAAUCUUAUCUAUCUAAGAAAGCUGAUGUAACACAUUAAUGACAUCAUUCCAAACAAAGUUUUAGGUCCAAUUGUUCAUCUAGCCCUUGUAAUUGUUUUUAGGUGAAUUUCAUUAUUAAUCUUUUAUUUUCUUUGGCUUAAAUACACAUUUACCCUUAAUUUUAUCACAUUCUCCUUCACUGGUAUUUAUGGUUUAGAAAAUUUUACAAAUAUAUUAUUUUUUAAGAAAUUAUAAGAAGAUUACAAAAAUUCCAAAAUAAUAUAAAAAAGCUAAGGAAAACCUAGAAAUUCAAAAAAAAAAUCAUGUUUUUACAAAUUGGGAAAUACCUAAAUUUGUUUUCAUCAAUUAAGAAAUUAAAAAAAUUGUUGAGAAAUAUCUUUUUAGAAAUAUCAUAAUUGCAUUUAAGACCUCAUGAUUAUCUUUUAUAAUUUCAAGGUUAUCAACUAUUUUGAAAACAAAGACAAAAACAAAAACAAAAACGUCGACAUAUCACUUUAGCAUUGACUUACUUUUCUACAGUUAGUCUUCUCCAACAAGAUAAAUAUUUCAAUUUUAACAACAUUGACAGGUCUUUGGGGUAGGGUCGAGCAAAAGUCAAUAGAAACAGAUGAUAUAAGUUUAAAUCGGCCCGGUCAAGCCGAUGUCCUGGUAAAAUCAAUUUUAAAAUUAAUUAUAAUAGUUUAAGCGAAUUGAUUAUUAAGUAAUGAAAUACUUAAUUCAAACAAUUGAUGUAAUCAAAUUAUAAUAAAUAUAUAUUUACUUUUAUGGGAUCCUUCAUCUCCUUUUUAGAGUUUGUGGCAAUAUUUAUUUUAAGCUUCAAAUUUAUAUUUUUUAUUUAUGAGUACAAUGUGUUUUACAAUUACAUCUACAGUGUAUAUUUUUUAUUUUAAAACAUAUAUUAUAAUAUAUGAAAAACAUAUAUGUCGAAACCAUUUUUAAUAAUUUUGAAAAACGGGGAUCGACUUCGAAAAUAAAAUGGGAGUCACCAUCGAUCUUUUAUUGAGAUAUGAUCGGUUCACCAUUAGACGUAAUUUUGGUCUGCAAAUUUUGAGAAAACAAGUUCAGGAAUCUGUUAAGCACGAGGAAGGGUUAGCACCCUCGUAACGCCCAAAAUUGGUACCAAAUUGAUUGUUUAAUGUCUUAAGGUCGAAAUUUUGAAAAGAUUUUAAAAUACGAUCCUUUGAAGUUUAAAUUUGAAUAAACCAAAUUGAAUAAUAAGACACACUCAUUUCGAAUAAAUAAAUUGUCACACUCAGUGAGUUAGGAUGCAACAAUUCAAUCAUCAAAAUUAAGUAUGUCUUUUUUAAUUUUAAAAUUUUAAAAUUCAUGCAUUUUGAGAAUGUUGUUCGGUUAUUUAAGUCAAACGAGAAAUCAGAAUUCAGUAAGUUAGGUUUCGAUUUCUUGAAGUUCUUAAACAUCAAAUAUUGUCUUUAUUUUAAAAUCAGGAUAUCAGAAUGUCACAUCCGGUAAGUUAGGAUCCGACAUUUUGAAAUCCUAAAUGCUUAGUUUUAAAAUGGUAUGGUUUUAAUAAAAUAAGCAUAUAGCUAUUUAAAUUCAUCGAGAAAAAUUGGAACCCAAUAAGUUAGGGCACAAUUCUCUCGAAAAUUAUAAAUGCUAGACCUUUUUUAAUAUGAAAUAGAAUAAAAAAUUUAAAAGAAGUAUGAAAUGUAAAAGAUGAUUGAUAAUUCAAACUUAAACUAAGAAGUAGCAAAUAAGUGAUAAAUAAAUACAAAUAAGGAAUAGCAAUAAUAGUUUUAAUAAUAUUAUAUUAACGCUAACAUUGACAAUCAAACAUCAAAUUCUAAAGUAUAUCCAAGAUGAUAAAAGGGGAAUUUCACCUCACGAAACUUAUGCACACAAGUUCUAAAAGAUUUAUUCACAAAAUCAAAAUAGAUUCGAAAUAAAAUAAUAAUAACAUUGUAUAAUAGCAUUUCGAAAUGAGCUUGAAACAAAUAAAAUAUAUUUAUUAAUCCACCUUAAAUAAUACACAUAAAAUAACUAUGAAAGGGUCUCAAUGCAUGUAUGAUUUAAAAGAAAUAAGUAAUUACCCAAAUAGGUUUUCAAAGAAAUAAAUUAUAUAAAUGAAAUCGACUUAAAAUUCAUAUAUGCAUAUAAAAAUACUUUGAAAAUUUAUAAUCAUGAUGAUAUUAAACAUCAAAACAAUAAUAUAUAUAUUUUUUGAAAUAAUUUAAUAUCACAUAUAGUAGCAUUUAAAAACAUUAUAUUAAAAGAAAAUUAAGUUAUAACACAAAAUGAAUUACUAAAAUAUGUUCAAAGUAUGUCAAAUUGCUAUAAAACAUUUUUACAUAUAUAGAUGAUGAAACAUAUAAUGAUAUAGAGUUUUAAAAUAAAAAGGAUAAAUUUUAAAAAAAUGUUAAUAAACUCAAAACAUGUUAAUAAUAAUUUUAAAUAACAAUAUGUUGUACCUUAAAAUUAUAAUAAAAAUGUUUGAAAACAGUGUUAAUCCUAAUAUUUAAAACUUAUUAAAAAUAAACAUAUUAAAAAUACUAAGCUAACUUUACAUUAUGUUAUAUAUAUAAAAAAAAACUAAAUUUGAAUGAAAUUUGUAGAAGCCCAAAUUUGCCGGGCCCAUACCAACAAAAUAACCCAAACAAUAAACCCGAAGCCCAACUACCCCAGCCCAUUAACCUAAGCUCAGCAUUCAGAAACCCUAAUCCCACUAACCCUAGCCACCUACCCCCACUUGCCCACUUGCCCACUUGCGCCGAACACCACCAUGCCACUAUCGGCCAUGGCCACCUGCAAGAAGCCAAGUAGAAAUAAACAAAUAGAAAAUAAACAUUUGUAAUUGGUUAUAAAAACCGAAAAUCUCACCAUUGAUAAAGGGGAUUUUUUAUUUUUUGCUAUGAAAACAAAAGAUUUUCUUUCAAUAUUAACAGAUUCAAUACAAGAACCAUUCGAAAAUAUAUAUACUAUCAGGGGCUCUAACACCAAAUCGGAGAAUCAAAUCUAAAACCUAAGGUGAACCUAAGGUGACUCUUUCUUUUUUUUUUCUUUACUGUUUUGAGUUUAUUUUCUACAUAAAAAUACUAAAAAAUAUUAAAACAUAAAAAUAUAUGCAUUAUUAAGCAAAAAAAAAAAGAAAAAAAGAAAAAAAAUAUUUUUUUUACCUUUUCCGGCCACCGCCGGCGAGCCUCCGGUGGCCGUCCGGUGACCGGCCCCCUGGCCGGAUUCCCCUUUCCCCCUCCCUUCUCUCUCCCUUCUCUCUUCCCUCUCUCUCUUCUUUUUUUUCUUUCCCUCUCCCCAAAGGAUUUUUUUGGCUAUUUUAGGCCUUUAUAUAGCCCUCCAAAACGAUGUCGUUUUGGGGGCUACACUUAAGCCUCAAAACGACGUCGUUUUGACCAUUGCCCGACCCAUCCGACCCGACCCGCUAGAGGAUCCGCGUGUUUUCGUUUGAAUGGGAUAUUUAUGCGCGCAGUCCUUCCGCUUUUUCAAGGUUUUGCAGUUAAGUCAUUUUUCUUGUUUCCAAUUUGGCCCCAUAAUUUCUCGCGCUUUUCGAUUUAGUCCCCGCUAAUGUGCUGUGUUUUAAUGGAAUGGAAUAAUUGUUGUUUCGGUCCUCCUAUGUUUUGUGCGCGCUCAAAUAAGCCCAUUUCUCUUUAUUUCCUUUCACAUUUGCCCCACAACUUUGUUUUUAAUUCAAUUUUAGUCCUUUUUCGUUUAUUUUUAUAUCUUUAUUAAAUAUCAUUGUUAUUUUAUAUUAUUAGUAUUAUUAGUAUUACUAUUAUUAUUAUUAUGUAUUAGUAUAUAUUUUUAUUAUGUACGCGUAUACAUGUAUAUAUAUUUUCAUAUUUAAUAUUUUUAUUUCAUUUUUUUCUAAUAUUUUAUUAUAAUUUAUAUAUAUAUACAUAUACAUAUUCUUUAUUUAUUUUAAGUAUAUAUUUUUUAUAUUUCAUAUUUUCUACAGGCAUAUAUAUACUUAUAUAUUUACAUAUUUUAAUUCAUAUACUUAUAAAUGUAUGUACAUACUUACGUUAUUUUAUUUUUAUAAUAUACAUAUUUAUAUUUUUUUGUCUUUAUGUAAUAUAUAUACAUACAUGCGCAUGUUAUUUAUAUAUAUGUAAUUAUGUUUUCAUAUUUUAUAAUUCUUGUACAUACAUAUAUAUAUAUAUAUGUAUAGACAUACAUAUUUUCAUUAUAUAUAUAUACCUACAUAGUUUUUUUUUUGUAUUUUAAAUCUUUUAAAAUUCAUACAUGCAUUUUUAAAACUUUUAUAAUUUUAUUCAUUUCUUUAUUAUUAUUAUUGUUUUACUUUAUGUUUAUCUAUUUAUUUAUGUGUCCAUUAUUAUUUUUUUUAAAAAAUGUUUUAGUUUUUUUUAUUUUGUUUAUUUACUUGUUAUUGUAUAUAAUUGAUUUUUUAUAUAUUUAUUUUUGUUAUCUUCGCUCGUAUUAUUUUUACUCGCAUUAUCGUAAUUGUUAUUCCGUCACAUCAAUUUUUACCCAAAUUCGUAAAAAAGGGAAAAUUUUGGAAAUAAAGGCAAUACUCGAUACUUGGGAUCUUCGAGAGAAUUGGGCCCUAACGUGCUGGGUUCUAAUUUUCUGUUGAAUCUAAAUGCUCGAGAAUGCUCUUUAAUAUAAAACAUAAAUAAAAACUCAUUAUCGGGAUUUCAAUAUGUUGUGUCCUAACGCAUUGGAUAUGACACGUGGUUUUCUCGAUAUGAGGAUUUUUUUUUUCGAAAGUAAAGACAAUAUUCCGUAUUUAGAAAAUUCGAGAAAAUCAUGCCCUAACUUACUGAGCUUCGAUUUUUCUCGUUGAUUCUAAGUAAUCGGAUAUCCUUUUAAAAUUAAAAUAAAUGAGGUUUAAAUAAAAAAAUGAAAGGCAAGUUUACUCUCGAAAAUACGAGGUGUCGUGUCCUAACUUACUGGAUGUAACAUCUUGUUACUUCGAGAUAAAGAGGCAUUUUCCAUUUUGAUUUAUUCGAGUAUUUUUAAAAUAACACGAUAUAAGGAGGGAUCAUAUUUUUAAGAUUCUUUUCGAGUUUUUAAUUUUCGACACUAAGACACUAAUUAAUCAACUAGGUACCAAUUUUGGGUGUAUCGAGGGUGCUAAUCCUUCCUCGUGCAUAACCGACUCCCGAACUCAUUUUUCUGAAUUUCGUAGACCAAAAUCGUUGUUUUAAUAAAAUUAAAUCAUUUAUUAAAAACAACCACUUUUUGAGGUGACCCGAUCACACCUCAUCAAAAAAGGAUUGGUGGCGACUCCCAAUUUCGUUUCAUUUUCAAAAUCCAAGUCGACCCCGUUUUCAUCCAAAAAAUGGUGUCAACAGCUUGGCGACUCCACUGGGGACAAUAAGAGAGUCAAGCCACGUGUUGAUUAUUUCUUGUCUUUCUGUUGAAAGUGGAAAAUUCGAUUUAAAUUUACGAUCCUCUCAUUACAUCUCUUUUGUUUUGAGUUAUAUUUUUAUUGUGUUCUGUAUUUUAUUUUAUACCUCUGCACAUUGCAUUGCAUGACCGCUGGUCAUACCCUUUUUAAGUGGGAGUGAGAAGCUACGCCUUCGUGAGGUUUUCACCUCCGCAUGGGAUAGUGAAUCGCUUUCGGGAUAUAUCCGUACCUAUGUCUUCGUGAGAUUUUCAUCUCCGCAUGGCCAUAGGGAAAUGUAUCCCCCUGAAUCGAACUCGGUCCAUAUGAGCCUAUAAUGGGUGAGGAUCGAGGAAUCUGCUGGUUCAGGUACCCUUACUUUAGAACCAAACCUCAUGUAGUGAACCUUAGGAGCCCACCCUAGGUAGAACCACCUCCAAACCCCUAGUGGUCACCCGAAUUGCUUUAUUUGUUAUUUAUUCUGCACUAACGUGUUUUGUUUUUUUUUUGUUUAUAAUUGCAUUGUAUUACAUCAUCCUAGGAAGGAGGUGUUGAUUUAUAUUUGAUUGCUAAAUAGAACAGUUUGUCAUAAGAAAACAAAUUUUUUGAUAAAGUGGAUUAUAACACGGUUGUCUAAAUAUGGUCCAAGUGAAUACAUGAAAGAAGGCUGAUAGUCCGUGAAGAAAUACAAGACUUUGCUUCAUUGCCUGAAGACAGAAACUAACAAAGAUUAUUCGAGAGCUGUCAUGUCUUGACUUUCUUAAAGGAGCUGAAAAGUAUCAUAGAAAUAAGUGAGCAACGAGUCGCUGCCUGGAUCCAGCAAAAAAGCAGUUAAUAUAGACAUCUCUUGGAGAAUUCGUCAGACUCGACCAUAAGAUCCAGAUAUGAAGAGGAAGAAAGGUGUCUUCACUUGGAAUAUGAGAGAAAGACCGUGUAUGUAGUCCGUUUUAUGUAAAGGAAUUUGUUUUCUAGAAAAGUUGUUCCAAUGAAAUUAAAUUUAGAAUCAAUGUCUUCCUUUCUUUUUGCAUUCAUGCAUUUGCAUUACAUUACAUCAAAGAAAAGAAUGUGUUGAUUCGAAAUUCGAUUCCUAAAUAGAAUAGUUUGUCAUAAGGAAACGAAUUUCUUGAUAAAGUGGAUUAUAGUGCGGUCACCUGAAUAUAGUCUGAGUAAACACGAUGAGAGAAAGCUGGUAGUUCACGGAGGAAUACAUGAUGUAAUUUCUAGAGAUUCAAGCCAACGAAGGCAUGACGAGAGAAAGCCGGAAGUCCACGAAGGAAUACAUGACUUGAUUUAAUUGCCAACGAAGAUUAUCCAAGAGCCGGCACUUUUUGAUGAAUAUCAUGGAGAUAAGCGAGCAAGAGAUCGAGGCUCAGGUUAAGCAGUAAGGAGCUAGCAAAGGCAUCUUUUGGAGAAUUUACAGGGUUUAACCAUGAAGAAAAUAUCAGCGUUUACUUGGACUAUGAAGGGCAAUACCACAUAUGUAAACUAUUUUCAUGUAAAAAAAUUUGUCUUCUAGAAAAAUUAUUCUAAUAGAAUUAAAUUUAGAAUCAACGCAUUCUUUUUCUUUGCAUUCUUUUCAUGCAUUGCAUCACAUCAUAUGCAUUAAUGACCAUUUAAAAAGAACUUAAUCGAAUAAAAUCAUUUCAGUUAACCUGGAAAACCAACAAAGUUACGGCACCCGAGCUAAGGCAAAAGUUAUGGACCAAAGGUUGGAGAAGCUAGAGCGACUUCAAAAAGAAAUGCAAGACCAGUUGCAGGCGCAAAUGAAAGAGCAAAUGGAAAAGAUUCAGCGUGACAUGGUGCAAAAGAUGGAGGAGUCCCAAAAUGAUCUGGUGGCUAAGAUGACGCAAUUAUUGAAGGGAGUAGAUAAGGGUAAAGGUCCUGUGAUUGUUAGUGAAGAAGAAAACAAUGGUGAACCACUUUAUCCUCCAGGUUUCACGCCUCCGCAUGAGCAAGUACAGACUGAGCUGCAUCUGCGGAGACCCUCUGUGUCGGUUAGGCCCCAGCAGUUCCAAGGCGAUGCUUCAAUCCCAAUGAAUUUUCAACCCGGAGCGGGCUUUAAUCCCAGUGAUAGCCCGAAUAAUAUUGUUGUCCCAGAUCUUGAUGAGAUGGUUGAAAAGGACAAGGCGAAGGAGGAAUUUCCAAAACAAUUUGAGGAGAAAUGGAAAUGGAUAGAAGAAAAGUUUAGGGCAAUAGAAAGCAUCGAAAGCUACGGAAUAGAUGCAAAGGAUCUGAGCUUGGUUCCGGACUUGGUGCUCCCUUACAAAUUUAAGAUGCCGAAAUUCGAGAAAUACAACGGGACUAGUUGCCCAGGAUCCCAUAUUACUAUGUUUUGUAGAAGAAUGACGGGGCAUAUUAAUAAUGAUCAAUUAUUAAUACAUUGCUUUCAGGAAAGUCUUACGGGAGCGGCGUCAAAGUGGUACAAUCAGCUGAGCCGAGCUAAAAUUGCUACUUGGAGGGAUUUAGCACAGGCUUUCCUGAGACAAUACAAUCAUGUCUCAGAAAUAAUGCCUGACAGGAUAACUCUGCAAAAUUUAGAGAAGAAAUCAAACGAAAGCUUCAGACAAUAUGCGCAGAGGUGGCGAGAGGUGGCAGUUCAGGUGCAACCACCGCUUUUGGAAAAAGAGAUGACAACGCUUUUUAUUAAUACUUUGAAAGCCCCGUUCAUCACUCACAUGUUGGGAAGCGCUUCAAAAAAUUUCUCGGAUAUAAUCAUGAAUGGUGAAAUGAUUGAGCAUGCCAUUAAAAGUGGAAAAAUAGAUGGAGGAGAAAAUAAUAGGAGGGCACCCCUGAAGAAAAGAGAAAAUGAAGUGAAUAAUGUGAAUGCUUAUGGUAGGUCAAUUACCGUGAAUCAACCAAAGAAAGUGGUUGCUAAUCAACAGGGAUCAUCAAGACAAGAGUCGGGAGCUAGGCAAACUACUGAAAAGCCCUAAUUCACGCCAAUCCCGAUGUCAUACAAGGAGUUGUAUCAGACUUUAUUCGAUGCACAUGUUGUUGCUCCUCGUUACUUGAGUCCUCUACAACCCCCGUAUCCAAAAUGGUAUGAUAUGAACGCGCAAUGUGAUUAUCAUGCGGGAAUUUCUGGGCACUCGAUAGAAAAUUGUACUGCCUUCAAGAAGGUAGUAGAAGGACUUAUCAAUUUAGGUGUCGUCAAACUUGACGACUCACCUAACGCAAAGAAUCCGUUACCUAAUCACGCAGAUAAAGGGGUGAAUAUGGUUAGCGAAGAUACGGGAGAAGAAGCCAAGACUGACAUUGCUGAAGUAAAAACUCCAUUGAAACGGGUCUGGAAAGAAAUGGCGAAAAGAGGUUUGGUUAUUUCAGAUUCUGAGGAAGGGCAUGAGAUGGGAAAUUAUUGUGAAUUUCACCAUAAAACAGGGCACGAAAUCCAAGAAUGUGAAGGAUUUAAGGCUUUGGUUCAAAGCAUGAUGGAUAACAAGGAGAUGAGGUUUUACGAAGAUGCGAAAGAAAUGAGGAGCAUAUGCGCGACAGAGUUGGGAACAAAGGCUCCAAAUCAUCCUGUGGUCAUUAUCUCACGCCCUAAGGGUAAGGAGGUUAGGGCUCAGGUAACACCGAAAAUUGUAAUCCAGAAACCAUCAAAUUUCUCUUAUAGGGAUAACAAAAUGGUACCGUGGAAUUACGGGUGUAAUGUGACCAUUUUGGGAAAAGAAGCAGAAAGAAAUCAGGAAAUAGGUUCUUACACGCGCAAUAGAAAAAGAUAUGACGCUCAAGCAGAGUCGUCCAGGGAAGAGAAUUGGAAGAAAGAACAGAGGAAAGGGAAAGCAGUAGAAGUUGAGCCAUUGGUAAAUGAACCAAAAAAAGAAGAGGAGGCAAAGGAGUUUUUGAAGUUUUUGAAACACAGUGAAUACAGUGUUGUGGAGCAACUACACAAACAGCCAGCCCGCAUUUCUGUAUUAGCUUUACUCUUAAACUCGGAAGUACAUCGGAAUGCACUAUUAAAGGUGCUAAACGAAACAUAUGUGGCUGACGAUAUUUCGGUAAACAAGCUGGAUCGGCUGAUCAACAAUAUUGGUGCUGACAAUUUUAUCUUCUUCAGUGAUGAUGAAAUACCAUCCGGAGGAAGAGGUUCUACUAAAGCCCUGCAUGUUACUGUCCGAUGCAAAGGGUACACACUCCCGGGGGCCUUGGUUGAUAAUGGAUCUGCACUAAAUGUAUUGCCUUUGUCCACUCUUAGUCGAUUACCAAUAGACAGUUCGCACAUGAAAGCAUGCCAGAACAUAGUAAGGGCAUUUGAUGGAACAAAAAAGGAGGUUAUGGGGAGAAUUGAGGUACCAUUAAGGAUUGGCCCAGUCACUUAUGAGGUGGAUUUCUUGGUAAUGGAUAUUAAACCCUCCUACAACUGUCUAUUGGGGAGACCGUGGAUACACUCAGCAGGGGCAGUACCUUCAUCAUUACAUCAGAAGGUGAAGUUGGUAUCGGAGGAUCGGUUGGUAACAAUAGAUGCAGAGGAGGAUAUUAUCGCAAUGAUGACUAGCGAUGCACCUUAUGUGGACAUCAACGAUGAGGCACUAGAAUGUUCUUUUCGGUCGUUAGAAUUUGUGAACGCGAUGUUUAUUGCGGAGGGAAAUAGAAUUCCAGUACCAAAAAUAUCCAGGACCACUGAGAUGGGAUUGCGAUUGAUGGUAGGAAGAGGAGCCUUACCCGGGAAAGGAUUGGGAAAAUAUCUUCAGGGAAGGAUUGAGGCACCAAUGCCGAAGGAAAAGUUUGAUAGAUUUGGUUUAGGGUACAAGCCAGACAUGAAGCAGAAGAAGAAAGAAGUAGAGAAGAGACAAGAGAGAAGAAGGGCGCGUUUGAAUGGACAUGAAGCUAAGUGUGAGCCUUUAACCUUUCCCCACAUAUCUACAUCUUUUGUGUCGGGAGGAUUUAUUCAUUCUGAAUGUGGAGUGUCCGGUAGCGGCAUGGGAGGAAUGUUGGAAAACGUUUAUACCAACGCCAUAGAAGCAACGGAAAGGAGGGCCUUGUUGGAGAUCUGCCCUUAUGAGCCUGGAAGCGAGCUAAACAAUUGGACUGCUGAAGAAAUCCCUGUAGUCUUUAGGGCUUAUUCAGAGUAAUGCUCAAAACAUUCCUGUUGUUUGUUGGCCUAGAAACGAUAUGAAAUCUUUUGUGAAAUAGGCAUUGGGCCUAAAUAUCAUUAUUUUAAUGAAAUACGUGUCUACGUUCAUCUCGAUCAGUCACUUUUUUUUCCUUUCAUAUUUUUCAUUUGGUUGAUUGUCUUACAAAUAAUUCUUUCAUUUGUAAUUCUUUUGCACAAACAUAUUCAUAAAUUUAUAUUCUUGGUAUAUUCUUUGAUGCGCCCUCAUAGGUCUUCAGAUAUCAAUGACAUGAGUGACGCUGCCUCAAACACGGAGCCUAUUUUUGAGCAAAAAGUGUGUUCAGAGGGAUCCCACGACUUUGACGAAGAUUAUGAUGCAUCUCCGGACUUGUUAAGAAUGAUGGAACAAGAGGAUAAGCAUAUCCUACCUCAUAGGGAAUCGUUAGAAAUAGUGAGCCUAGAGGAUGGAAAGGAGGUGAAAAUUGGAUCUGAAAUCACCGCAAAGACAAGGCAAGACCUCAUUAAUUUGCUCCGAGAGUUCAAGGAUGUUUUCGCGUGGUCGUACCAAGAUAUGCCUGGGCUAAGUACUAACAUUGUGGUGUAUCGUCUGCCCAUAAAGGAGGAUUGUAAACCCGUUCAACAGAAGCUUAGGAGAAUGAGACCUGACAUUGUGUUGAAAAUAAGAGAAGAAGUCAAAAGACAAUUCGACGCUGGAUUCUUACAAGAAGUCAAGUAUUCGGAUUGGGUAGCCAACAUCGUCCCAGUUCCCAAAAAAGAUGGAAAGGUACGAAUGUGUGUGGAUUAUAGGGAUUUAAACAAGGCUAGUCCAAAGGACAACUUUCCACUGCCUCAUAUUGAUACUUUGGUAGAUAACACGGCGGGCUAUUCAUUGUUUUCUUUCAUGGACGGUUUUUCUGGAUACAAUCAAAUAAAGAUGCAUCCUGGAGACAUGAGGAAAACCACAUUCAUUACCUUAUGGGGAACAUUCUGUUACAAGGUAAUGCCCUUCGGAUUGAAGAAUGCGGGAGCAACAUAUCAAAGAGCUAUGGUGACUUUGUUUCACGACAUGAUGCACAAAGAGAUCGAAGUCUAUGUUGACGAUAUGAUCGCGAAGUCUAGAACGGAAGAAGAGCAUGUUCAGGUCUUGAAAAAGUUAUUUUUGAGAUUAAAGAAAUUUCAGCUCAAGCUUAACCCGGCCAAAUGCACGUUUGGAGCCAGAUCAGGGAAGUUAUUAGGCUUCAUAGUUAGCAAAAAGGGGAUCGAGGUUGACCCAGACAAAGUAAAGGCAAUACGAGAUUUACCUCCCCCGCGCACUCAGAAGGAGGUUCGAGGUUUCCUAGGGAGGCUGAAUUACCUUGCUCGGUUCAUCUCAUAACUGACAGAGAAAUGUGAUCCAGUAUUCCGGCUCUUAAAGAAACAUAAUCCGGGUGAAUGGGAUGAAGAGUGUCAGAGGGCUUUCGAUAAGAUAAAGCAGUACUUGGCUAAUACCCCAGUCUUAUCACCUCCAAGUCCAGAUAGGCCAUUGAUAUUGUAUCUAACAGUGUUGGAGAAUUCCAUGGGAUGCGUAUUGGGCCAACAUGAUGAGAUAGGAAAGAAAGAAAGGGCAAUAUACUACCUCAGUAAGAAAUUUACCGAUUGCGAAAUGAGGUACUCAUCAAUUGAGAAGUUGUGUUGCGCUCUAAUCUGUGCAACCCGAAGACUGAGGCAGUAUAUGUUGUAUCACACGACUUGGCUGAUUUCAAAGUUAGAUCCUUUAAAGUAUAUGAUGGAAUCGACUGCUUUGAACGGGAGAAUGGCUAGAUGGCAGAUCUUGCUCUCAGAAUUUGAUAUAGUAUAUGUCAGUCAGAAGGCCAUAAAGGGAAGUGCAAUAGCCGAUUUCCUAGCUAGUAGAGCCUUGGAGGACUAUGAAUCUUUGAAUUUCGAUUUUCCAAACGAGGACUUGAUGUAUGUGGCGAAUACUGAAGAAAAUCCUUAAAUGGAUCGCGUAUGGAAGUUAAAUUUUGAUGGAGCUUCAAAUGCUACGGGUAAUGGAGUUGGGGCAGUUUUGGUAUCCCCAAGUGGAGAUCAUUAUCCUGUUGCUAGCAAGUUGGACUUCGAUUGUACAAAUAACAUGGCAGAAUAUGAAGCAUGUAUUAUGGGCAUUCGUGCAGCCAUUGAACGGAACAUCAAAGUACUGAGAGUAUACGGGGAUUCAGCGUUGGUGAUAUACCAACUCAAAGGGGAGUGGGAGACUAGGGAUCCUAAGCUAAUCGGUUAUAGAAAACUAGUUCUUGAAUUGGCUGAGGAGUUUGACGAUAUCACCUUCUAUUACCUCCCACGGGAGGAAAACCAAAUGGCUGAUGCUUUAGCUACUCUAGCUUCGAUAAUUCAGGUGAAUAGACUUGAGGCAAUGAGGCCUGUUCAGAUGAGUAUCUCUGAGACCCCGGCUAAUUGCUGCAAUAUUGAGGAGGAGGGAAAAGAUGAUUGUCCUUGGUAUCAGAGUAUCCUACAAUAUGUGAAGAAUCGGGAAUACCCUGAUCAAGCGACAGAGAAUGACAAAAGAACUCUGAGAAAGAUAGCCAUUGAAUAUGUCUUAGAUGGAGAAGUGUUAUAUAAAAGAAGGAAGGAUCAAGUACUGUUAAGGUGUGUGGAUGCUGUGGAAGCCAAGAAAAUUUUGGAAGAAGUCCAUGAGGGUAUUUGUGGGACGCACGCCAGUGGUUUCACGAUGGCCAGACAGAUCAUGAGAUUUGGGUACUAUUGGCCCACCAUGGAAGGAGAUUGUAUUGAUUAUGCCAGGAAGUGCCACAAAUGCCAAAUUUACGGAGACAAAAUGCACGCGCCCCCUUCACCUCUUCACGUCAUGACCUCUCCUUGGCCGUUUUCCAUGUGGGGUAUGGAUGUUAUUGGGCCAAUAUCACCAAAGGCUUCUAAUGGGCAUCGCUUCAUCUUCGUAGUAAUUGAUUACUUUACUAAGUGGGUGGAGGCUGCUUCAUAUGCAAAUGUCACGAAAGCAGUAGUCAGCAAAUUCUUGAAGAAGGAGAUCAUUUGUCGAUAUGGAAUGCCUGAGAGGAUCAUAUCCGACAAUGCGAUGAACUUGAAUAAUAGCACAAUAGCUGAAGUUUGUAGCAAAUUUAAAAUUAAGCAUCAUAACUCAUCGCCGUAUCGUCCCAAAAUGAAUGGUGCAGUGGAGGCGGCCAAUAAGAACAUUAAAAGGAUUGUGGGGAAAAUGACUGAAACCUACAAGGAUUGGCAUGAGAAAUUAUCAUUUGCUCUCCUUGCCUAUCGAACAUCUGUUAGAACUUUUACUGGGGCAACGCCUUUUUCUCUGGUUUAUGGAAUGGAGGCAGUAUUACCUAUUGAAGUUGAAAUCCCUUCUCUACGGGUGUUAUCUGAGCUACAGUUGGAUGAAGCCGAUUGGAUCCAAUCUCGGUACGAUCAGUUGAACCUAAUAGAAGAAAAGAGGCUAAGAGCUAUUCACCAUGGGAAAAUGUACCAGAAACGAAUGAUGCGAGCCUAUAAUAAAAAGGUUCGCCCCCGAGAAUUUCGUGAAGGGGACUUGGUACUAAAAAAGAUUCUUUCUAUGCAAAAAGAUUUUAGAGGAAAAUGGAUGCCAAAUUGGGAAGGCCCUUAUGUUGUAAAGAAGGCCUUUUCUGGUGGAGCUUUGAUCCUAUGCGAGAUGGAUGGCAAAAGUUUACCAAAUCCUGUAAACGCAGACUCCGUCAAGAAAUACUUCACUUGAAAGAAAGGGGAACCAAAGUGAAAACCCGUGAAGGGCGCUUUGCUUCCUAAAAAAAAAAGAAAAAAAAAAACUUUGGGGAGGCUAAGGUGAAAACCCGUAAAAGGCACUUUGAGACCAAAGAGGGCUGGAGUCGAAAACCUGAAAAAGGUGACUCAAGUACUGGGCAGGAUUGGAACAUCAGGAUUUGAGCGGAUCAAAUUUUGAUCGGGGGCAUAUGAUUAUCUUGCUUUACUUGAACCAAUAAGAAAGGAUAUGCAACGUCUUGGAACAUGGACAGAGUAUUCCAGAUCUCCUGAACACAUGUCAAACUCAGAAGGGUCUUCGGAAAGUUUGUACAGAGAAACUCAAGCUGCGAUAACUGGGGCACCUAGUUCUUAUGUGUAUUCUUGAAAAUACAUUUUUUUAUUUUCUUUCUUUCUUCCUUUCUUUUGGUGAAAACGCACAUUCUCAAUCCAUUUCUUUGUUACCUUGCUUUCGCCAUCUUUGAUGUUUUAUUCGAGUUAUGAUCAGAACUAGCUUUAUUCUUAUCCAUUGUUAUGAUCUUUUUGCAAACAUGUUGCAUAGGAAUAAUGAUUAACGAACUAAUAAAACUUUCAGGAAAGAAGUUUUGCACAUUACUCUGGAAAAUUUCUAAAUAAUAUAGGGACCUGAAUCAUGACUAUUGUUUAGAAAAUACCAAGUUUAAAGGGUGAAAUAUCUAAGAAGGAAGAGUCUAAUUUAAAGACUAUCCUUUCAGAUUUUGUUGUCUAAACAUUGAUUGAACAAAAUGACAAGCUGUCGUGUUACAAAGCUUAAAUGAACAAGCAAGCAAUGAUCAUCAGGCAAUAGGAAGAGGUUACCUCGGAGAAGAGAGCCUUCACUUGCGCAUAAGACUUUGGUACGACACCUUGAGAAUGGUGUAGGAAACCAGAACGGUUCAGAUCCUAUAUCCCCGAAUUGUGAUAAAAGAGGACAGAGGAAAAGCCACAUAUUUCUACCCUUAGAUUACUGUGAGAGAAUGAUGGUACAAAUUUUGGCGUCCCAGUGGAUAUAACUUUGAGGUUUACAAUGGGGACAGUCUGGCUAAAUGUUUCUUCAGAAAAAAAAAUCAGUCAAGCGAGAAGGCGUUGCAGCACGUCAGUCACAAAGCCUUAGUAAACUUCGAGUAAUGACAACCUAAGCGAGAUCAUUCUCGGAAAAAUAAAAUUCUGCAUUCAUGCGAACACCAUUCACAUAUGUCUAGUUAGGAGCAUUUGUUUCAUUUUGAUCAUGUCAUCCUAAUCAUUAGGCAUAAUUAGGUUUAUUAUACAGGUCUUAUCUCCCUGAGAUUACAGUGGAACAGACCAAAGAAUUUCAGAUCCUAUCUCCCUGAGAUUACAGUGGAGCGGAUUAAAAUAAAGGAUCUUAUCUCUCUGAAGUUACAGCAGAGUAGAUCGCAUCAAGUCUUAUCACCCUGAGGUUACAGGGGAGUAGACCGAAGAAUUUCAGAUCUUAUCUCCCUGAGGUUACAGUGGAGCAGAUUGAAGCCAGAGAUCUUAUCUCUCUGAGAUUACAGCGGAGUAGAUUGAAGCUAGUAAUCCUAUCUCUCUGAAGUUACAGUGGAGCGGAUUAAAAUAAAGGAUCUUAUCUCUCUGAAGUUACAGUAGAGUAGAUCACAUCAGAUUGAAGCCAGAGAUCUUAUCUCCCUGAGAUUACAGUGGAACAGACCGAAAAAUUUCAGAUCUUAUCUCCCUGAGAUUACAGUGGAACAGACCGAAAAAUUUCAGAUCUUAUCUCCCUGAGAUUACAGCGGAGUAGAUUGAAGAUAGUAAUCCUAUCUGCCUGAGAUUACAGUGGAGUGGAUUAAAAUAAAGGAUCUUAUCUCUCUGAAGUUACAGUAGAGUAGAUCACAGCAGACAAAACCACAGAUCUUAUCUCCCUAAGCAGUUAGUGGAACAGAUCACAUCAAGUCUUAUCUCCCUAAGUAGUAGUGGAGCAGACUAAAAACACAAAUCUCAUCCCCAUGGAGUCGUAGCAAAGUAUAUUGAAGCUACAAGGCGUAUCUGAACUUGAAGUAGAGUGGAUCGAAGCAACAAGAUGUAGCAGGCUGGAAUAAGGCUACUUGAAGAAGAGAAGCACCCAAAGAAGUCAAGCCUCGGUGAGACCAGGCAAAUUUGGUCUUUUUUAGUCUUUGCUCUGUUCUUGUUACACAAAAACGAGCAAAGAGGGGCAGCUGUAGAAGCCCAAAUUUGCCGGGCCCAUACCAACAAAAUAACCCAAACAAUAAACCCGAAGCCCAACUACCCCAGCCCAUUAACCUAAGCUCAGCAUUCAGAAACCCUAAUCCCACUAACCCUAGCCACCUACCCCCCACUUGCCCACUUGCCCACUUGCGCCGAACACCACCAUGCCACUGUCGGCCAUGGCCACCUGCAAGAAGCCAAGUAGAAAUAAACAAAUAGAAAAUAAACAUUUGUAAUCGGUUAUAAAAACCGAAAAUCUCACCAUUGAUAAAGGGGAUUUUUUAUUUUUUGCUAUGAAAACAAAAGAUUUUCUUUCAAUAUUAACAGAUUCAAUACAAGAACCAUUCGAAAAUAUAUAUACUAUCAGGGGCUCUAACACCAAAUCGGAGAAUCAAAUCUAAAACCUAAGGUGACUCUUUCUUUUUUUUUUCUUUACUGUUUUGAGUUUAUUUUCUACAUAAAAAUACUAAAAAAUAUUAAAACAUAAAAAUAUAUGCAUUAUUAAGCAAAAAAAAAGAAAAAAAGAAAAAAAAUAUUUUUUUUACCUUUUCCGGCCACCGCGUGCGGUGGCCGGCGCCGGCGCCGGCGAGCCUCCGGUGGCCGUCCGGUGACCGGCCCCCUGGCCGGAUUCCCCUUUCCCCCUCCCUUCUCUCUCCCUUCUCUCUUCCCUCUCUCUCUUCUUUUUUUUUCUUUCCCUCUCCCCAAAUGAUUUUUUUUGGCUAUUUUAGGCCUUUAUAUAGCCCUCCAAAACGACGUCGUUUUGGGGGCUACACUUAAGCCUCAAAACGACGUCGUUUUGACCAUUGCCCGACCCAUCCGACCCGACCCGCUAGAGGAUCCGCGUGUUUUCGUUUGAAUGGGAUAUUUAUGCGCCCAGUCCUUCCGCUUUUUCAAGGUUUUGCAGUUAAGUCAUUUUUCUUGUUUCCAAUUUGGCCCCAUAAUUUCUCAUGCUUUUCGAUUUAGUCCCCGCUAAUGUGCUGUGUUUUAAUGGAAUGGAAUAAUUGUUGUUUCGGUCCCCCUAUGUUUUGUGCGCGCUCAAAUAAGCCCAUUUCUCUUUAUUUCCUUUCACAUUUGCCCCACAACUUUGUUUUUAAUUCAAUUUUAGUCCUUUUUCGUUUAUUUUUAUAUCUUUAUUAAAUAUCAUUGUUAUUUUAUAUUAUUAGUAUUAUUAGUAUUACUAUUAUUAUUAUUAUGUAUUAGUAUAUAUUUUUAUUAUGUACGCGUAUACAUGUAUAUAUAUUUUCAUAUUUAAUAUUUUUAUUUCAUUUUUUUCUAAUAUUUUAUUAUAAUUUAUAUAUAUAUACAUAUACAUAUUCUUUAUUAUUUAAGUAUAUAUUUUUUAUAUUUCAUAUUUUCUACAGGCAUAUAUAUACUUAUAUAUUUACAUAUUUUAAUUCAUAUACUUAUAAAUGUAUGUACAUACUUACGUUAUUUUAUUUUUAUAAUAUACAUAUUUAUAUUUUUUUGUCUUUAUGUAAUAUAUAUACAUACAUGCGCAUGUUAUUUUUAUAUAUGUAAUUAUGUUUUCAUAUUUUAUACUUCUUGUACAUACACAUAUAUAUAUGUAUAGACAUACAUAUUUUCAUUAUAUAUAUAUACCUACAUAGUUUUUUUUUUGUAUUUUAAAUCUUUUAAAAUUCAUACAUGCAUUUUUAAAACUUUUAUAAUUUUAUUCAUUUCUUUAUUAUUAUUAUUGUUUUACUUUAUGUUUAUCUAUUUAUUUAUGUGUCCAUUAUUAUUUUUUUUAAAAAAUGUUUUAGUUUUUUUUAUUUUGUUUAUUUACUUGUUAUUGUAUAUAAUUGAUUUUUUAUAUAUUUAUUUUUGUUAUCUUCGCUCGUAUUAUUUUUACUCGCAUUAUCGUAAUUGUUAUUCCGUCACAUCAAUUUUUACCCAAAUUCGUAAAAAAGGGAAAAUUUUGGAAAUAAAGGCAAUACUCGAUACUUGGGAUCUUCGAGAGAAUUGGGCCCUAACGUGCUGGGUUCUAAUUUUCUGUUGAAUCUAAAUGCUCGAGAAUGCUCUUUAAUAUAAAACAUAAAUAAAAACUCAUUAUCGGGAUUUCAAUAUGUUGUGUCCUAACGCAUUGGAUAUGACAUGUGGUUUUCUCGAUAUGAGGAUUUUUUUUUUUCGAAAGUAAAGACAAUAUUCCGUAUUUAGAAAAUUCGAGAAAAUCAUGCCCUAACUUACUGAGCUUCGAUUUUUCUCGUUGAUUCUAAGUAAUCGAAUAUCCUUUUAAAAUUAAAAUAAAUGAGGUUUAAAUAAAAAAAUGAAAGGCAAGUUUACUCUCGAAAAUACGAGGUGUCGUGUCCUAACUUACUGGAUGUAACAUCUUGUUACUUCGAGAUAAAGAGGCAUUUUCCAUUUUGAUUUAUUCGAGUAUUUUUAAAAUAACACGAUAUAAGGAGGGAUCAUAUUUUUAAGAUUCUUUUCGAGUUUUUAAUUUUCGACACUAAGACACUAAUUAAUCAACUAGGUACCAAUUUUGGGCGUAUCGAGGGUGCUAAUCCUUCCUCGUGCGUAACCGACUCCCGAACUCAUUUUUCUGAAUUUCGUAGACCAAAAUCGUUGUUUUAAUAAAAUUAAAUCAUUUAUUAAAAACAACCACUUUUUGAGGUGACCCGAUCACACCUCAUCAAAAAAGGAUUGGUGGCGACUCCCAAUUUCGUUUCAUUUUCAAAAUCCAAGUUGACCCCGUUUUCAUCCAAAAAAUGGUGUCAACAAAAUUUUCUUUAAUAUAUUCACUAUAAGAGCCAAUAAUAUUUAUGAAACUUAACAAAACAUUAUGACUAAUGAGAAAUAAAGAUAAAAUUAAAAAAAGAAGAAGCAAUAAUUGAAUCGAAAUUACAGCACUUGGAAGACUAAAUUUGCAAUCAAUCGAAAACAUGAGGACUAAAACCAUAAUUAAACACAAUGGUUCAAACAUUCAAAUUCAGAUAAUGGAAACGUCGCCGUUUAACUAUGAACCAAAUUGAAACCAGAUUAAAUCAUACGGUAUAAAUCGAAAAAUUGCAGAAAAUCGAAUUAGAACAAUACAAGAUAAAAGAGGACUGAUUGCGGAAAUAGUCCAAUGAACCAGAAUGCGCGGAUCCUGCCCCGGGUCGGGUCACCGCGUGGGUCCAAGGACGCUAAACGGCGUCGUUUCUUUCACACUAUAUAAGCUAAAAUAAACCUAAAACCUAAAGCUCUCAGUCAUUUUUUAAGAAAAAAAACCUAAAAGAAAACUAAACUCCUGGCGCCGCUUCAGCGUCGAAAACCCCCCUCGCCUAUUCAAUCUUGGCCUGAACGGGGGAGGGAUUCGGCGACUCACCGAUCCAGGUAAGGUUUCUGAACUGUCCUCCCUUUUUAUUUUAUAUAUAUGCUUAUAUAUGUGAUUACUAGCAAACAGAAAAAAAGAAAAAGCAAUCGGAAAAGGAACAGAACCGAAAAGAGGAAAAAAGAAAACCUUUUUUGUAUUGAUUUCGUUUUUUUUUUAUACAGUCUCCCCUUCCGGAGUACAUGAGAAAAUAAGGCUCUCAUAGCCCGAAAAAUAAAAAAUAAACCCUCUUUUCUCCUUUUUUCUUUUGUUGUUAUCGUUUUUUGCUUUUUUUCUUCUUCUUUUGCUGUUGUCUUGUUAUUUGCUGCAGGUACGGGUACGCGUGACGUGGCUCAACGCGUAUGGAGGCAGAGGCUGGCGUGGAGCGGCUCGGAGGCGUGGCUGCAGCGCUGGAGGCUGAAUGUUGCUAGGGUUUGCUGCUGUGCAUUCUGGUGUUGGGCCAUUUGGGCUGAGUUGGUUUGCUGGGCUUAGAAUCAGGUUUAGGUUUGGGCUAGGGUCUAGGCAAAUUGGGUUUGGUGAAUUUUUUUGUAAUUUGGACUGUUAUUUUAUUUGUUUUUUUAUUAUUUAUUUUAAUAGCGGGCUGGGCAAAUUGGGCCUAUUACAAUAUAUAUAACCAAAUUUUGUAACACCCAUUUUAUGUUAAAAAUAUUUUCUUUAAAAUUAAGUAUAGGUUGGGUGGUAAAGUACUUAUAUUUUAAUACUAGUAAAUACAUGUUCAAUCUUUAGAUUUAUAAUUUAUAAUUCUUUUAAUUAAAGAUGAUAUACAAGUAUGAAAAGACAAAAGUGACAUAGUAAUAAUAUUAAUUAUAAAUUUUAUAAUUUCAUAAUUGAGUUGAUGACGUGGUUGAAGGUGGCACUAACUCUAAAACACUUAAAUAUAAUAAUAGCUUAAAAAUAAGGGGCUUUUGGAAAAUACAUUUCUGAGUUGGUGACCUGAGGGUCACACCAACUCAAUAAAACUCUUAAAUAUUGAUUACAAAUCCUAUCACACACUUAUGUGUAUCAAUAUCACAAAUUUAGAAUAUAAAGAUGUGUUUAAAAUUAACAUACAAUAAAGAAUGAAAUUUAUGGUUUGAAACUAAUUAGUAAUAACACAUGAAAUAUGUAUGAUAUUAAAAUGAAAAAAGAGAGAUUAAAUUGUGCAUAAAACAAAAUUUUAUCCUAUUACAUCAAUAAAGUUAUAUUUAUUACCCUCGCCAAUUAUUUGUCAUUAAGAACAUUAAAGUAUCCUUGAAUGAUAUAACUUAUUCUAAAUAGAGUUGAUGUAUGGUUGGCUUGGGAUACCAACUCAGUCAGGAGCUUAAGAUUAUUAAAAUAUUCUUAUUUUAAAGAGAAAUUAAUAUUAUUAUAAGAGCACGUUUGGUUCGUUGUAUUGGAUUAGAGGCGUAAUGGAAUAGAGGUGUAAUGGAUUAGAGGUGUAAUGGAAUAGAGGUGUAAUAGCAAAUCAACUGUUUGGUUAAAUGUAAUGGAAUAGAGGCGUAAUAGUAAUCUUGUAUUUGGUUGAAUGAAAUAGAGGUGUAAUAGCAUAAUGGGAAAAACUAAAAUGACUAGAAUACCCUUAGCAUAAAUUUGUUAAUGAUUAUUGUUAUUGUUAUUUAAAUUUUAAUAAGAUUAUUAUUAUCAAUAAUAAAUAAUUUAAUCAUAUUUAAACAUAAUUAUUAUUAAAUAUAUUAUAAUUAAAAUAUAUAAUUUAAUAAAAUUCUUAAUAAUCAAUAUUCUUAUAUGAAUUUACUCAAAUCAUAAUAUAUGAUACUAUAAAAUUUAAAUUAACAUAAUUAUUAUUAAAUAUAUUAUAAUUAAAAUAUAUAAUUUAAUAAAAUUCUUAAUAAUCAAUAUUCUUAUAUGAAUUUACUCAAAUAAUAAUAUAUGCUACUAUAAAAUUUAAAUUAACAUAAUUAUUAUUAAAUAUAUUAUAAUUAAAAUAUAUAAUUUAAUAAAAUUCUUAAUAAUUAAUAUUCUUAUAUGAAUUUACUCAAAUCAUAAUAUAUGAUACUGUAAAAUAUAAAUUAAAAUAAUAAUUAUUACAUAUAAUUUAAUAAUAAUAUAUAAUUUAAUAAAAUUCUUAAUAAUUAAUAUUCUUAUAUGAAUUUACUCAAAUCAUAAUAUAUGAUACUAUAAAAGAUAAUUUGAAAUAAUUAUAACUAAUAAAUUAUAUUUUAUGAAUUUGUAUAAUUUAAAAUAAUAAUUAUUACAUAUAAUUUAAUAAUAAUAUAUAAUUUCAUAAAAUUCUUGAUAAUAAAUUUUCUUAUAUGAAUUUAUACAAUUUAAAAUAAUUAAUAUUAAAUAUAAUUUAAUAGUGAUAUAUAAUUUCAUAAAAUUCUUAAUAAUAAAAUGUUCUUAUAUGAAUUUACUAAAAUCAAUAUAUAACUUGAGAAUUAUAUUCUGCAUAAACAUAAUUAACUUAUAUUAAGAAAAGGUUAGAUGAAAAUGAAAUUCUACAUCAUAAUCCAUAUGUUAUAUAGUUUUACAACAUCAAAAAGUUUGAACAUUGAUAUUUAAUGGUGAGAAAGAAAUCUUCUGACCCAUUCCAAUCGGGCAACAGAAGGUAAACUAAAGAAAACGAUCAUUUGAGUUGGAUGAUCUGGAAUUUUACUCAAAGCAUCAUACCGCUGAUCGUCAGUUAAACCUUCAAUUGACCAUAGGGCUGAAUAUAAAUUUGAAGCUUUCUCUUCCAUCUUUUGAUAUUCUUCUGACUUCUGCUGAACUACCACCUCGAAGGCAAUACUCCUACUGAUUUGAUCGCCAACGGCCUGGAUUUUUUCCCCCAACAAAGUGGCAGCCUCAUCAAAUGAAGAAUACACAUUAUCACGAGCAUCAGAUUUCUUCUUUCUCUUGUUUGAAGAUGAGGAACCCCCUUGGUCUCUAUCUCCUCACGGAUCUGUACCAGAAACAUCCAUGUCGUCUAAAGAGACGUCAGCUUCGCAGUCAUAGAAUGUGUUUCUCUCUUCAUUCAUAUCUGUAGUACGUACAUCCUCAGCAUGUAUUUCUUCAAGAACAUCAGCAGCUGUUUGAGCGUCUUUCCCAGUUGCUCGAUCUCUUGCUUAUAUGGUAGUAAGCUGGUCAUAGUAAGAGAAAGUACGAUAUUUGAAUUGAGUGGCUUCUCUGUGACUCUAAAAAAAAUGAGGAAAUCAUAUUAGUCAUAAGUUUGGUAUAAAUAAGAUAAUAAAGACUUGAAAUAAUCUUACCUUUAAAUAGGACUCCCAAACCGUAUCUUCAGCAACAACGAGCUGCCUAUGCUCGUCCCAACCAAAACCGCUAUUGUUUUGGCCAUUAAGCAUGUCAUAAACGAUUGACCACUCCCUUUUUAGUAACCUAACCCUUGAUUCAAUAUUAGGUUUCGCCUUCAACAUUGCAUUUAGUAAAACCGUUUGUAGCAUUCUUUCCAACUCGUUCAAAUAACCGGCUUUGAACCCGGUAUCAGCAUUAAAUGUUCCAACAUUGUGCAGGUCCACCAUGCAGGAAACUAAUGCUGCAUCUUCUUCUGGAACCCAUUUUCUUUUGCUUCCUCGAGAAGCUUGAGAAGAAGCAUUUGAUUCUGGAACACCUGACAUAAUGAUCUUAAGAACAAAAAAAAAACAAAUUAUAUUAAUUACUAUUUUAAUAUCAUGAUUCAAAAGGUCAACACUAUAUAAAAUCUAAGGAAUUAAGUUGAAUAUCAUGAAUCAAAAGCUCCAUACCACAAAAAAUUUAAAAUUAUAACACAUGCUGAAUUAGAAGAAAUUAUAUUAUAAUUCAACAAGUUUAGUACAAUACAAAAAUCAAUACAAAAGUUUCACAAACUAAUUUCUAGAUGCUUGCCAUUCAUCGAACAUUUGGUUGGCUAGUUCCAUCCUCCAAGUAGCCCAAGCAUCUGAUGGAUGAAUAUUUGUGAUAUUCGGUUCAUCGUCAUCCACCACAUUAAUUGUAGGUAAUCCUUCUCCCACCUCCGCUUCAAUGGGAUCAAUACUCAUAUGGGUUCGAAUAAAAUUAUGGAGCAAACAACAUGCAAUAAUAAUUCUAUUGUGCACCCUUACAGGAUAGAACGAUGGACUCCUAAGUAUUCCCCAUCUAAGUUUUAAUAAGCCAAAGCAUCUUUCAAUAACAUUACGUGCUGAGGCAUGUUUCAUAUUAAAAAACUCUUGCGGAGAACUUGGCUGAUAACCCUGACGCCACUCGUUCAAAUGAUAUCGCUGUUCUCUAAAUGGUGCAAGAAAUCCCUCACAAUUUGUGUAUCCAGCAUCAACUAGAUAAUAACAACCUAUAAAAUAAAUUUUUUUUUAAAAUGAUUAAUUCAGCACACAAAGUUUACUAAAAAAAUAAUUCAAAGUCCUCUAACUAUACACUUUACCAUGAGGAACUUUUAAUCCAUGUCUUCUACUAAUGGCAUCUCGAAGAACCCGUCCAUCAGCAACUAAACCUUCCCAACCAGGAAGAACAUAAACAAAUUGCAUCUCAGGUGUACAAACACCUAGCAUAUUUGUUGCUAUGUCACCUUUUCACGUUCGAUAUCUAGGUUUAUCAACUGUUGGAACCCUAAUCUUGAUGUGGGUUCCAUCAAGAGCACCUAAGCAAUUCUAUAUCACAUGAUAUAAAACCUUGAGUUAGAAUACUAAUUUAAAUCUAAAUCAAGUAAAUGUUGUUGAAGAUAUAUAUAAAACUUAGUCCAAUACCUUAAACCAUUUCCACCUUGUGUCAGAAGAAUCAGCUGUAAUUAGCUCUGGCUUUUUAAAUAACACAUCUUGUAAGCGUAUGACAGCAUUUAAAACACUAUGAAAUGCUCUGCUAACAGUUUCCCCGGACCUUCUAAAGUGAUGCUUGAUAACUCGAUUUUUCAGGUGAUGGGAGAUGAUAAGUAAAAACAUUGCUACUUGCUCGUCAACAAGCAUGAACCUUGUCGACUUCAAUCCCCUAUCGAUUCUAACAUCUCACAUUGUUUAAAAAAGGCAGCUCUAUUCAUCCUAACUUGUUCAAUACAGGUCUCGUCACUAGCAUAUACAAGCCUCUUCACAUAAUCCCGUUUUGCAUAAAAAUCUACGGUAUAGGACCUAAUCCUUGGUCUAUGUAGCCUAAGGCUGGCACCCAUUCUAAAUAAGAACCAAAUCGCGAUUCUACAGAUUUCCAACCAUAUUGUCACAGCAAUACCAAUUCUUUUACGCCUCACACUUUGUGCAAUUAAAGGCAGACGAGCCAUUACUGCAACAUUUAGAACACACAUAGUUUAAACUCACGAAUUUAGAACACACGAUAGUUUGAACAUUAAUUAGUUUGAACAUUUCAUUUCGUAUAAAUAUAUUGAUUAGUUAAUUAAAGCAUGUUCAAUGUUUGAACAUUGAUAGUUUGGACAUUUAAAUUUAAAUUUAAAUAUAAUUUCGUAUAAUGAAAUUUAAGAUUUAAUAAAGGUGAGUAUCAAAGUUUGAUCAUUGAAUAAUCUUUUUUAUUGAUGAUUAGUUUAAUUAAGGUUUUCUAAUUUCAAAAUAAAUAAAAUGAAGAAUGAAGAUUUGGUUUAAUAAUGAAGAUUUGGUUUAAUAAAUAAAAUGAAGAAUGAAGAUUUGGUUUUCUAAUUUCAAAAUAAAUAAAAUGAAGAAUGAAGAUUUGGUUUAAUAAUGAAAAUGAAGUUUUAAAAUUUUUAUAACAUUUUAAAUGGUAAUUUUAUUUUGUAAAAAUAUAUAUAACUUUUAUCUCAUUUACAUGUACAAAUUAAUAUUAACAGUAUUGUAUUUGCAAUUAUGAUUGGAAAGAUUGAAAUCUAGUAUUGUAUUUACAUGUACAAAUUAAUAUUAUUUAAGCCCAUUAUUUGUAGGCAUAAUGCUCUUUAAGAUUGAACAUAAUUAAAGGUUGAACAUAAUUAUUAUUAUUUGAAUAAUAUCAAUUAAAGGUUGAACAUAAUUAUAUAUUAGUAUCAAAUUUGUAUGUACUCUUUAUAUGUACUCUUUCACUAAUAAAUUAUAUAUCAAAUUUGUAUCACAUUGAUUUUAUGUACGCUUUCAGUAAUAAGUUAUAUAUUAGUAAAAAGUUGGUGCAUUGGUACACCAAAUAAUUUGAAUACAUACUACUUUCUUUAAAAAAAAUGUUACCUAUUAGUAAAAACAUAUAACCUAUUUGGGAAACAACAAAAGCUGUAAUGACCAUAAUUAUGCAAAUUGGUGAUAAAAAAGAACAAUAAUUAUGCAGCAAUAACCAUAACCAUACAAACAAAAGCUGUAAUGAGCAAUACAAACAUACAAACAAAACCAUAUUCAUUUGGGAAACAACAGAAGCAGCUACAGCAAUACAAACAUAACCAUACAAGGAAAACAUACUAAUAAACCAUGAAUACCAAUGGAAAACUAACCUGUAAUGAGCAAAUCGGGGACGACUGCGAUGUAGAAGUGUUGGAACAAAGAACCUGUAACCAGUAAAGGGAAAUCAAUGUUACAAAAAUAAUCAGUUUAUAAAAUUGAUCAUACACUUUACCAAAGCAGCCUCUCAUUUAGUAACCAGUCCUUUAGAUUAUUAAAUAUACCAACUUGGCAGCUUUGAAUAUAUAUGCAAAGCCAUUUUACUUUAAAAUACAUCCCUCCAUUUAUCCUCUUUAAUGUGGUUCACUAGCACCAAGGAAGGCUUAGCAAUGAGGACUUUACAUUCCCUUUCGAAUUUUAAAAUCCCAGGGUUUACCAUCACAAGAAGAUACAUCCUUAUUCAAUCACACUCACCAACUAUUAUGUAAUUACUAAAAAAUGCAACCAAAAUGGGGUUGGCCUAACAUAAAUCAUACACCACACCAUCAAUUGAAGGUUAAUUCAUGGUAACAUUAGUAUUGAAAGGUUGCGUUGUGGGCAGCCUAAGAGGACUCGCAACACUAGGCUUAAUUGCUGUAACAUAUCACAUUCGGAGGCUGGUUCGGACAGCAUCAAUAAUACAAUAUUUAGACAUCAUUAACAACGCAAUAUUCGAACAACAUCAAUACCACAAUCGGACAGCAUAAACAGGGCAGCAAUUAACAAUACCAACAAGGUAAAAUUCGGACGGCAAUUUAACAGUUUCAACAAUUAUCAAACACAAGAAAAUAGAAGUUCAAGGAAAACUCGCCAAGGUUCCCAACACCAAUUUUACCUAUUUAAUUUACUUCUUCCCUUUUCCGCUACAGCCUUCUCCCACCUUGUUAGCUAAAUACAAUGAACCCAAAAGUUACAAAAAUGGUGUAUAACAACUCAAGCAUUCACUAAAUUCUUUUAACACAAGUGAGAAACUCCUCAUCUUCUAGACAUGCAACGUUUACAACUAGAAAAGAAACUCUUCUCUUCUCCCACACAUUCGGUCAAGCUCAAUUCAACAAUGCAACCAGAAUUUGUCAACGAAAAGCUAUGGGCAAGGGAGAGCUUAGAAGAGUUACAGUUCUACUUGAAAAUUUUAACUUCUAAGCAAGCAAAUUUCAUGGUUUUCCAGUACAUGUAGCCGGCCUCUCCUCUCUAGCUUCAUUUGAAAGAGACAAGGAAGCAAGAUAGAAAAAUAAAAAGUCGAAGUCUUUCUUUCUUACUUACCGUCCAUUUCUCCACCCUUUACCCAUCAUAAAAUGAAAUUUAGCCAAUCAACAAAUCUUAGCCGGCCACCAACCAAAAACCAAAAACCAAAAACCAUAAAAUGAAAAGAAUCAUGUAAAAGUUUAUUCAUACCUCAAAAACCAAACGCCGAGACCGAGAGAAGAAACGAUGAGGACUGAAUCAUCAACGAAAGCAGUGGGAAAUGGGAGGAGAAAUUAUGAGGACAGAAGAUGAGAGGGUCGGGUAGGGAGGGAGGGUAAAACAGAGAGUUGGGGAGGGAAGCCGGACGUAAUACCUAUUACUCGAUUUGGGAAGGGAUUAGAAAAGCAGGGAAUUUGGGGAUUAGGUCGGGAUUGUAUUACGCGCGUAAUACCUAUUACAGCGAACCAAACGCCAGAUUAGGGGCGUAAUGUAAUAGCCGCAUAAUCAGUCAGUAAUGGAUUACCUAAUACACUGAACCAAACAUAGUGUAAGUGUAUUUUCACCUUUUCAUACUUUGAUAUAAUCUUCAAGUAAAACGAUUGAAAAAUAUUAUUUGACGACACAAGACUAAAAAAAUUCAUAUAGAAAAUGCUUACCACUCCACUAGUAAUCAUUUGUCAAUGUAUUUUUGGUAAAAAGACCUCUCCAAUCCCUCUUAAUUUCACAAUUGCGCAAAUUAGUCCCUCUCAAAAAAUUAAAGCAAUUUAAUCCUUAUCAAUUUUGAAAGUGAGUAACUAAGGAUAAUUAAUUAUGGUGUUAAAUUCUUCCAUCAAUUGUACAUAAUUUUGAUUGGUAUAGUAAUAAAUUUAGCCUUCAAUGUUUAUAUAUUUUGUCAUUUUGGCCUUAAUUUUUAAAAAAAUUUUAAGAAAUUCAACCUCAACAUUUACAAUUUACACAAACGUUGCGGGAAAAUUUUGUUAAAGUAAGACCAGCUAAAUUUAUUAUUAUACCAACCAAAAUCAUGUACAUUUUAUGAAAAAUUAACAUCCUGAUUAAUUAUUCUUAAUUGCUCACUUUCAAAAUUAAUAGGGACUAAAUUGCUCUGAUUGUUUUAGGGUGACCAAUUUCCUCAAUUUGGAAAUUGAGAGAGACUAUUGAGAUCUUUUACAUUUUUUUUUAUAAAUAUAUUUUUUAAUAUAAAAUAUAUUUGUUCACACACAUCGUGUGUAUGAUAAAAUAUUUUUAUUGUUGAUUGAGUUGGUGUCAAAAAUUAACUUGACACCAACUCAAGAUUAAUGAUAACAAUAUGAUAAAUAAUUUAUUUAUUUAAUAUUUUUAAUUUAAGAUAUUGAUGUAAAUUUUAAGACAUGUAUGUCUUGUAGAAUUGUAAUUAUACUUUUUCAGUAUUGACUCAGUUUUCCACAAUUGUGGGUCUCUAUUUGAGCAAAACAAUUUCAACAUUUCUUCAUCUCGCUUAAUCCAAAUGCAUUUAGGAUUUUCUUAUAUCAUUGCUUCAAAAAGGGUAAAAAAAAACGUCGACAUUGAAUUUUCUGUUUCACAUUCAAUUUUUGGAUACGUAGAAUUUUCUAAUUUAUUUUCCAUCAACUUCACUUCAAUUUUCAGUCACAAUCAAUUGCAAUCAAGAGCACCACAUCUUUUUGGAUGAAACGAAGCUCUCAAUUUUAAGAUAAACGGGUCUUUAGGGUUAUUAAUUGAGGGCCUUUUCCACAAUUGCCAUCGUUAUUUGCGGGUGAUUGGGUUACGACAAUGGUUUGAAGUGAAGCUGUUUCAAAUGAAUAUGAAUACUCUACCAGUAAGUCAUAAUUUAAAAUUCAGGUUAUGUUUCAUUUCAACUAAGUUAAAUGUUAAGAUUGAAGUUAAACCUUUUAGAGGUUGCUCACAAAAGGAUCAAACCUUUAUAAAAGUGCUUAAAUGAAUGCCAAAUUUUUUAAAAUAGACAAAUAAGGCCCUAACCUUUUAAAAGGUGUUCAAAUAAGGGCUUCUCAAAUGUUGUAUAUCAGGUUAUGUGUUUUACUCUAAACAUAUCAGUAUUUACUAUUUUUUCUACAAAUUGGGUUGAAGUGCAUGAAAAAUUUUAUUUUAGCACUUUUGUAAAGGUUAAACUCUUAUUUGACAAUUUUGAAAGGUUUGAUCCUUAUGUGAGCAACCUUUAAAAGAUUGAGCACUAAUUUAACAAGUUGAGAAAUACCUAAAUUUGUUUUCAUGAACCAAGAAAUUAAAAAAAAAAAAAAAACAUGUUGAGAAAUAUUUUAGAGAUUCUUAGCCUUGACAAGUUCCCUCCACCAUCUCCCUGCCUCCAGUCCCACCUCUUCUCUUAUGCUCCUUCCAGGUUCUUGUUUUUUGUGUAUUGAAAAUUCGACGGAACAAAAUAUCAACCUACAUCAUAAGGCACGAAGGCCAGAACUUUACUUUCUAGCCCGUCCGAUCCAAUGAAAGAAGAACAAAGAGUAUUGAGAUCUGACAACUUUAUUUCAUUUUCAUUUUCUUUGUUAUUUUCUAUGUUUCAUGUCAAAUACAAUGGAAGAAGAACAUAGAAAAAUGUUGCCUAUUUAUUUCCCAAUCAUCAUGAAAUUACUUGCCAUAGUCUUAGAAUUUUCUCACCAAUUUUCAAGCAAUCUCACAUGAUUUCUCAAUCACAAUUAAUUGAAUUCAAGAUCUUUUUGGAUGACACAAACAUUUCAAUUUUAACACAAACCAAUAUUUAGGUUAUACUUCAGUGCUUGACAAGCACUUUCACAUUUGUGGGAUAAUAACUCUAGCAUUUUAGGAUCACAUUUAAUUCAAUUGCAUUUAAGACCUCAUGAUUUUAUUCUAUAAUUUGAGUCUUAUCAACCUUUUGGGAAAUAAUAAAACAUCGACAUUAAACUUGUUGUUGAUGCAUUCAAUUUGAUUUUUUGAGGGGUCGUUGGAGUUAUAUAUGACUUUAGCAUUGAUUGAUUUUUUUAGAAUUAAUCUUUUAUACCAAUUUAAUAACAUCGACAUGUUUUUGGGUAGGGUAGAACAAAACCCAAUUUAAACCGAUUAUAGUGGUUUAGUUGACUCGGUCAAGUCCAUUAGAUGGAUAAAAUCAAUUUUAAAAUCAGUUAUAAUGGAUUAAGGUAAUUAAUUAUCUAGUAAUGAAAUACAUAAUCAAAUCAGUUACGGAAUCCGCCAUGUUAGAUAAUAUGAACAUCCCAUAUAUAAUAAGAAAAAAUUACGUACGAUUAUUUAUUAUCAUAAAUGGUUAGCUUAAAUUUAAAGUAAUCUAAUAUUUUUAUUGAUCUUCAACUAUUAACUAAAGUAUAAGCUAAAUAUGUGUAAAUAUUCUAGAAAUCAUUUCUAAUUGAUGAUAGGCUAAUUCGGAAUUAAGAUUAAUAUAUAAAAACUAGAUAGUAGGGUUAUAGUCCUCAAACUACACCUAAUUUAGUUUUUCCGACAUAUUUUUGAAAAAAUAUCACCUUCUUUAAAAAAAAUUGGUACAAAUUUCAAAAAUUAAAACUAUCAAUAAAUUCAGAUAUAUUAAUAAGUACCAACUAAACAAUACUUAAAUAUAGAUGUGUUUUAUAAAAAAAAAUUAUCAGCUUAAAGAAGUUGCAACAAAAAUUUAAAAUUCAUUUAUCAAAUGAAUAUUUAAAACUUAUAAUCUAAACUCUGACAUAAUAAAAUACAUAAGCAUAACUUGGAUUUACCAAAAAUCUAUGAACUUUUCUAAAACUUAAAUUUUAGUCCCUAUACUUUAAUUUAGAGACAUUGAGUCACUAUACUUUUUUAUUUAAAAAUCUUGGUCCCUUCAUCAAUUUUAUCAUUAUAAUUGUUGAUUUACUUGUUAUAAAAAAGGUAGAAUAACUUUUUUAGCCUUAAACAUUUAUAGUUUUUAUUAAUUUGGUCCUUACUCUUUAAAAUUACAUAAAAAUUCAAAAAUAUUUUAAAAAUUAAAUUUUUUCGUAUUUUUAAAAACAUUUAUAGUUUUUUUUUGUGGUUUGGUAACUUAUCAACUCGACUCUUAAUUGUGACAAACUUUUUUGACCUUUUUCGUACCCUUAACCUAAGUCCCGCUACAACUUUCUAAAGACCUCUUGAUUGGUGUAUCAUCUCGAUUUGUUUUUAUAGUGGUGGAGAUUUGGUUUUGAAGCAAGCCUAUGAUAAUCACAUUUUUCAUUCAACUGUUGAGCACACAAUACUUGAACCUUAAACACUUAGAGUGCUUUGAGUGAAUCUUAGAUAGGGUAUUGAUUAUGGUUGAGUUUGAAUUUCAGGUAAUUAUUGAGAUAGAGGAGACGCCUAUGUUUUUUGUGCUUUACAAAUUUUUGCUUAGAUUGCUUUUAUUCUUUAGUGUUAUGCUAGUUUCAAUUUCUAGUGCGUGAUUAUCUGUAGAUUAUUCCUAAGGAAUUGUCGGUGAAAACAAUAAAUUGAGGGAGAUUAACUUGAAUAAGGGUUGAGAAUUUUGCUUAAGGACAAACAAAUGCUUAAGUGUGGGGAUAUUUGAUAAGUGCUAAAAUUAAUAUGUUUUAACAUCAUUCUUAAUGUGUUUUUGGUUGAUUAUUUGAUGUUAAUUAUGAAUUUUAUGCUCCUAAUUCGUGUUUUUAUGCUUAAUAGAACAUUUGGGAGGAAAAUGAGCUAAAAUGGGGGCAACUAUAGGACCCACACAGGCUGACCUAUUCCAUAUGACCAUGUGGGUCAUGUGGCAGGCCAUUCGAUUUCGUAAAUUUUCACUCUGAACUGCGAAAAAAAAACGAAUUUUAGGUUUUUCAAGCAUUUUAAGGCGUAUAUAUGAAAAACAUAAGAAUAUAGGAGAGAACCUACCUAGAAUAUUUAAGAAAACAACUCCAAAAACACCAUUGAAGUCGGCUCUGAAGUAGAUUUUCAUCAAGAUUGAAGAUUCCCAGUUGAUUUCUUAGGAGAUUAUCAUGAGUUUCUUUAUUUCUUUCGGUUAUACUGCCCUUUGGAUGUUUUUAUUUUUAAGCAUGAACUAAUUUUCUAAAUACCUAAGAGAGAUGAACCCUAUGAUAGAUUGUGGCACCCCAAACCCGAUCGGGAUAGACCGGCCCGAAUUCGAAACAUUACAUUAGCCACCUAAGUGACUCUCCAGCUAACGACCACCCAAGACACAACCCAACCUUAUAACACCUCAAUCUUGUUUAAUUAUUAGUUAUUUAUUAAUGUAGAAGUAAAUUAUGAACCAAUUUUAAACUUUUCCUAGGUAAUUUAACCUAAGGGCAAUUUCAUCAUUUUACCACCUAUUGUAAAACUAACCCGAUUUUAGAUCUAAUUGCUUAUCAACCUUUUAAUCAAAUUAUGGAAGCCUAAAAUUUUUAGAUUCAUUUGAGUUUGUUUACUAUGUCUAAUUCAAAUUUUAUUACUAGGGACUAAAUUGUAACUUAAACAAAUUAGAAUAUCAAUUUAAAGAGACAAAAAUUCAAAACCCCAAAACCUACACGGGCAUGUGGAGACUGGAGCUAUCACAUACGGGCAAGUGAGAUUGAAAAAUAUGAAAUAAAUUAAUCGACUUAUUUUUCCAACAACCAUGCUAUGCUACCAAACCAAAUAAUGCUUGAAGCUUUGAAUAGGGGCGAAUCUAAAAAAAAAAAAAAUAGAAGAAUUAUAAUUAAAGUAUACAAUUUUGAGAAGUUAUCAUGUAUUAAUUUAUUAUUUUUUAAAGGGUCUUAAUAGAAAUUUUUUCCCAUUUUGGUUGGGCCAAUACCCUUGUCUGCCUCUUUAAAUUUGCUUCAACCCUAAACCCAAUAUUCGAUUUGGAUUAACAAAAAUAUAUAGGUUAGUAUUUGUGGGAGUUUGACGAAUAAAAAUUUCUUUUCUAGAGGUUUAAAUUAUAAAUUUUUGAAAGAUUAAAAUAAAUUUGUAUUUUUUUAUUAACAAAAUAUAAAAGAAAAAAAACAUGUUUAGACAAGCCAAGAGACCUUUGGGAUCAUACGGGUGAUUUUGAGAUGUUAAUGGUUAUUUUGGUGGAGAGGGUGAAAAAGAAACAAAUGAUUCAUUAUAUAUAAUAUAAUUAUCAAAAUUCAAGCCAUAUAUUGUAUGUUUCAUCCAUAAAAAUUUGAUGGGAGGUCCAAAGGUAAUUAAAUGACUUGUGGGCUUGCUGAAUUUCUUUGAAAGGCCCAAAGGCAAUUUAACAUUCACAAAAUAAUCUCUAAACACUGUAAAGACAAAUCAAAUCCACAGUAGCAUAAGAGUUGAUUAAGCUAAGCAUUGGUAAAUAUUACUUUGAUUUUGCAUGCAAUAUUGACAAAACCCCCUCCUACAUUAGAAAAACAACAUAAUCCAUGGAACAUUGAUAGCCCAAUACAAAUUUAUUCGAGAAAAAAGUCUCUUUGUUUUGUAGAACAUGAUAGUAAAGAUGUGGAGUUUCGUUCUUCUUAUUGGCCUCCUUUAGUUUUCCUUGAUCAACAACCACUAGCCAAAAACACAAUUAGAUUAGAUUAUGAAUGAUACUUUCAACUAUGACAAUAUUAAAUACAAACCCACUCUAAAUAACUUUAAAUAAAUGGAAAGCAGCAAAUUACCUGACCAGGCAAGCUAGUUUAAUUAAGACCAUUGUGUUAUACUUGUCUCUGAAUUGAAAAAUUUAGAAGGAAAUAAAGAGAAAGACUUAGAAAAUACUUGAAAACAGAUAAAACUUAUAUGUCAUUUAAAAUAAAAUAAAAAAUUCUAUUUAAGCCAUUUAAAAGUUUUAAGAUUUUUAAAAUUUUAAAAUGAUAAAAGUAAAAUAAUACUUUGGCACCCAAAAAUGAUAAAACUUUGAUUUAAUUCUUUAGUAAUUAUAAAAAUAUAGGAUAUUAAAAUGGUGAAAUUACAUUUUUACUAUAGUAAAAAUUACAAUUUAAUUUCACCCCCUAAAAGGAUUUUUUGGCUUCGCCACUAAUAAAAUCUUUGGCAAAAGAUUAAAAUAAAAUUAUACCGUAAAUGGAAAAAGAAACUAAGAAAAUCCAAUCUAACAAAGAAAAUAACUUGUUGUAACCAAAAGCUACCAUAAACCGUAAUUCAUGGGAAGGCUUGUUGCUUAUUUUAUUGGUUUCCAUUUUGAUUUUGCAAAAGAAGUCAGAAUUUUGAAGAGAGCAAAAGAAAAAAAAGUUUAUAUGAUUAAAAUUCUAGAAUAGAUUAAAAAUGUUGAAUUAAAGAUAAAAUUAAGUGUACUCAUUACUCACCAUCUCUGUUAAAAAUGUUGGAUGUUGUUUAGCAACCUUUGUUUGAUUUUCUUCAGCUCAACCACAACAUCUUUCAUAUCUUUUCUUUCUUCUGGUAACUCAGCUGAACAAUUCAAAGCCAACUCCAUGAUAGAUGAAAUACAAUUUGCUUUAACAACCAUGUACUCAUCCUCUCUUCUUAAUAAAUCAACAUCUGCAAUUUCUAUCGCUCCUUUAGGCAAUGAUCUUUCCAUCCAAUGCCUUAUACUCUCUUCUUCAACAAAAACAUUAUCAGUUGGCUUUUACUUUGUGAAAGUUUCUAUAAGGACGAUCCCAUAACUAUAGACGUCAGAUUUUAUAGAAACAAUUCCUGCUGAUCCAAAUUCUGCAUUUCAAGUAUAAUUAGAACAUCAUUCACCCUCAGUUAUUUCUAAAAUGCUUAUUCAAAUAUAUAUCCACAUCCACAUGAAACAAAAAUAUAAAAUGAAAAUUAGGAAAAUAAUCAUACAAAAAUAAAAAAGAAUUCACCUUGUGCCAUAUACCCGAUAGUUGCAAGAGUCAUGGUUUGCUUCAUUACUUCACCUUCUCCCAACAAUUUGGCAACGCCAAAAUCUCCAACAUGUGCAACCAUGUCUUCAUCUAGUAAAAUAUUUCUUGGUUUUAUGUCACAAUGAAUUAUAGGUGUUGGAUGUCCAUUGUGGAGGUGUUCUAUAGCUCCCGCAACAUCUAUCAUUAUGUCGACCCUUUGUAUGAUAUCAAGGAAACAAAUUUCAGAGUGUAACCAUUUCUCAAGGUUUCCAUUAGACAUGUAAUCAAGCACCAAGGCUUUGAAGUCAACACUUGAGCAGCAAGUAAUGACCUUCACAAUAUUACGAUGAACUAUAUUACGCAUAGCAUCACAUUCAAUGUCAAAACUCCUAAAUGCUCCCUCUGUUUGCAAAUUGAAAACUUUUAUUGCAACUUCCAUUCCAUCUGAAAGCCUCCCUUUAUAUACAUAUCCAAAACUCCCUGAACCAAGCAUAUUGCUUUCCUCAAAUCCAUUAGUUGCUCGUGAAAGUUCAGCAUGUGAAAUUCUUCUCGGUGUCUUCAAAGACAACAAAUCAUCUUUAAUUGGUAGAGUUGUACUUCUCCUUUGGCAACUUCUAUACAUAAUAGUUAAGACUGUUAGUACUACGACAAUACCAAUUGUUGUAAACCAUACCUAAAAGCAUGCAAUAUAAUCAUUUGGGAGUUUUUGUGGAUGUCGUUUUUGCAAGGUGGGACUAGCAAUCUAGGUGGGCCACAAAGUGCAUAAUUCUUCAUGAAUGAUGUGCUAGAAAAGUUUGAAAAACAUCCUUUGCUGGGAAUUUCCCCUUCAAGUCUAUUGAAAGACACAUUAAAAUACUUUAGAUAUAAAAGCUUUUCCAAAGAUUUGGGAAUGACUCCAGAGAGAUUGUUAUUGCAUAAAUCCAAGAAUUCCAAACUAAUCAAUCCAUCAAAUGAUUCAGGGAUAUGACCAUGUAGUAUAUUAUUUGAUAAAUCUAAUGAAACCAAAGUUUGAAGACCCCCAAAUGUGGAUAAGAUAUCGCCCGUGAGAAGAUUCCUUGAUAAAUUUAGUUUCAGUAGACUCCUAAGAUUUCCAACAUCAAUAGCAUGUGAAUUGUGAAGAUGGUUUGAUGAUAAAUCUAUUUUUAAGAUAUCUUUAAGAUUCCACAAAGUUGAGGGUAUUGCAGAACUCAAUUUGUUGGAAUGUAACCAAAGAUAUCCCAAAGAAGUAAUAUUACCCAAACAAGAGGGUAUAGAUCCAUGCAGCUUAUUCAACCCUAAAAACAAGUUGUAUAAUCUCUCCAAAUCACAAAGGCUUUCUGAGAUGGGCCCUCCUAAUUUAUUAGAGGAAAGACCUAGACUUUGGAGAUUCCGCAGUCCUCCUAUUGAUGUUGGAAUGAAUCCACUUAAUUUAUUAUAGCCAAGUUCUAAAAGCAACAUGUUGCUUAAGUUACCUAUUUCCAUAGGAAUAGUGCCUUGAAGCUCACAAUCUUCGGCAUAAAAGUAUUGAAGGGAUUUUGAAAGGUUCCCAAUAUAAGUAGGAAGAACGCCACUCAAUGGAUUUUCUGAAACUCCUAUGGUUUUCAAAUUCUUACAAUUCGUCAAAGAAGAAAGAAAGCUCCACUCAUGAUCAGUAGCAGAUCCUGUGAUCAAAUUAUUGUUUACGAUUCGGAACCAUUCAAGCUGUCUUAAGUUGCCAAGCGUUUUAGGGAUUGGGCCAGAGAAUAAGUUAUCUCCCAAGUCUAGUUUCGUAAGCAUGGAAGCAUUGGAGAUAGAGUAGGGAAUGUUUCCGCUAAGUUUAUUUCCCCCCAAAAAAAGAAACUCAAGCUUUGGAGCAUUGGUAAUGGGUGGUAAAUUACCUGUAAAAUAGCAUCUUUUAGUAUACAUAUUAAUUGAAUACCAAAUUCAUAAAAUAUAUAAUACAUUAAAAUAAAAACUGUAAAACUUCAAAUCAAUUAAGAAUAAAAUUUUGGCAUGGAAAAAUGUGAUGAAAUCAAUUAGAAAGUUGAGACAUAAUAAGAAGUUUUGAGUAGUAAUUACUCAUGAUUUCUAUAGACAAAACAUAUAAUACACUGAUAAUUUUUUAUAAUUUUUACAAUAUUUACAAUUUCUAACAAUUUUUAAUAAUUUUAUUAUUUAAUACAAAUUUAAAAUUUAACAAUUUUUUAUUUUUUUAAAACAAUUAUAUAUUUAUAAUGUAGUUAUUUUUUUUAUAAUUUUUUUUGAAAUUUUAAAGAUUUUUUUGGUUUUUUUUCUAGAUGAUGAUGCCAUCAUGAUGACAUCAUAUGCCACAUGGCAAUUUAUAAUUAGUUAAAUAUCUCAAUCCAUUUUUCUAACGUCAAAUGGACUAAAACAAGAACACCUGAUAAUGUUAGAGACUACACUUGGAAUGUUUGAUAAUAUCAGGUACUAAAGUGGGCAAAAAAAUUAAGGACUAUAUUAAAAAUAUAUCUAUAAUAUAUAUAAAUGCAUGGAUUUUGAGAAACUUUUGAAAUGAUAAUUAUAUAGUCUUUGUUUUUUUUACUAUAUUAUUGAAUUUUUUAUUUUAAAUAUUUUUUAUUACUUUUAAGAUUUAUCAUAUGUAUGUAUAAGAAUUUUGGUUUUACUAAAAUAUUUGGUCAAAUAAAUUCACUUUAUCAAAAAAUCUAGCAUCCUUAUAAAUAAAAAUUUUGAUUCUAUUAAAAAAAUUAUUUUAAAAAAUAUAUAAUAAAAAUUUAAAAUUUAUAUUGAAUUACUUUAUACUUAAAUUAUUAUUAGAAACUUUAUCAUACACAUACGUGCAUUAGAACCAUGUAUUUAGAACUUAAAUUUGUGUUUUAAAAUAACUUAUGAUAAAUAAUGAAAUGUAUAAUUUGAAACUAUUUAAUAAUAACACAUGACAUAUCUACCAUAUUAAAAUAAAAAUAGAUUAAAUUGUAAGUAAAACAUAAUUUAAACAUAUGAAUACAUCAAAUUACGAAUACUAAAUGAAUACAGUUAUUUAUGAUGAUGUUGUUGUCAAUUCCUAAGUUGGUGUCGAGUUAAUUUGUGACAUCAUAAAUUUAAGUGAUAAAUUUAAGGUUUUAUGUAUUGAUGCGGAUUCAAAUAUCACCAUAAUUUUUUUUAAAUAAAAAACUAAAGUACCCUCAAAUAAUAUAACUUAUAUUAAAUAUGAAAGGGUAGUUUUGUAAUUUCUCUAACGAGUUGGUGCCCGGUUGACUCAUGACACCAACUCAAUCAAAAGCUUCAAUAAUAAUAUAGAUAUUCACGUUAAAAAAAAAGUACUUUAGUUCCAAAUAAUUAUAUAACAAGUAAAUUUAUAAUUGAUGAAUAAAUUUAUAAAAAUAUAUUUAUAUGAUCUAAUAUAUUAUAUUUAUAUUAAUUAUAUAUCAUCUACAAACUUUGAAGAUCAAUUCAUUAAGUAUCAAGAAAGGAAAAAAAUGAAAUUGAAUUAACACUAAAUCAAUUUUUAGAUUUUGUACAGAUGAUUUAAUGAUGAUAAAAAAAUUAUUAGCACUAUUUUUGAAUUAACAAAAAAUUAGUGAUAUAUUUUAAUUAUAUUUAUUAUUUAUUAUUUUUAAUAAUGUUUUUUUAAUUAUAUGAAGUAAAAUUACAGUGUAUACUAAAUAUGGUACAUAUACUUUAAUUAUAACUAGAAAAUUUAUUAUAUAAAUUAAUAUAUUUUAAUUAUAUUCAACCAUUUGAACAACAAAAUAAAAAAAAUAAUUAGAAUAAUUUAUUUUUUAAAGUUUAAUGGAAAUUAAAAAAUUAAAAAUAAAUCAAUUCAUAUAAAUUUUGUUGUUUAUUUCAGAUGAAAAUGAUAAAAGUAUAUGACAUAAAUAGAAGAAACAAAUUCAACACCAUGUUUUUGGAGUUUGGAAAAAAUUAAAGUGAAAAACAUACCUUCUAAUUUGUUGUCAUGGAGACCUAUUUUUUCGAGCAUAGUUGAAUUAAAAAUACUUGAUGGAAUCUGACCUGCACACAUAGUCGAAAAUUGAAGUGAAAAACAUACCUUCUAAAUUGUUCAACUAAAAAUACUUUAAGCAUAUUUUUUAGUAAAGCCCUUCAAGCUUGGGAAGAUGUUGACACGUUGACACAUAUCAUUAGGCAAAGACUAAUAGCUUUCAAAGAAGAAAUCUUGAAGAUGGAAGAUGGAACCUGACCAGAUAAUUGAUUGAGUCCCAAGUUCAAGAUCUCUAGAUUAGACAUGUUAGCAAGUGUUUCAGGGAUUGUGCCUAUAAAGUUAUUAUUUUUCAUUUCCAGCCUUCGAACUCUGUGUAUGUUCCAAAGCCAUGAUGGAAUUUCCCCAUUAAGACGGUUGUAGCUUAAUCGAAGGAUCCGCAAACGAUGCAAUUGGCCCAAUUCUUUAGGGAGAUGGCCAUAGAAAUGGUUGCUACUCAAGUCGAGAGAGAGUAGAAAUGAAAGAUUUCCAAGGUGUGGAGGGAUAGUACCCCUAAGAUUCAUGCUUGUAAGAUUCAAAGCUGUAACUCUUUUAUGGAGGAUGCCACAAGAAACACCAAUCCAAUUGCAAACAGAGGUUGAGACAGUCCAAUUGUUUGGCAAGACAUUUUGAGGACCGGCGAUGCGAUCCUUAAACUCGAGAAGUGCAAACUGAUCGGAGUUGAGAUUUCUGACUGUCAUAGCCAAGCAAAGUACGGAACAUGGUAUGAAUAAAGCUAAAAGAAGAUGAAAGCAAGUGUUGUAGUUCAUGAUUGCAAGACAGAAUAAGAAAAGAAAAUAAAAUAAAAAAAAGUAGGAAAAGGGAAGUUGAGUUGAUAAAAUAGUUUGGAUGAUGAAGAAAAGCCCAGACAGCAUGCUUUAAUAUGUUUGGAUGAUAAAUUUAAACUUGAUAAAUUUAAGACUACCCUAAAAAUACGUACAAAGAAAUUUCAAAAUUUCAAAAUAAAUACGUACAAAGAAGCGAAUUUUCAAAAUUUCUCCUAAAUUUUCUUCACAUUACUCUACAUAAUCCAUUAAAAAAAACUUAAAAAAUAUAUUUUAUUAAUUACUAUAUAUUCUUUUAUUUUCAGAAUCAUAAAUUGUUUAAAAUAUGCUAUUAGUCCCUGUAAUUUAAAAGUUAAAAAAAUUCAAUCCUCCUAUUUUUCUAAUUUAAAAAUUCUAGUCCAAUCAAUUUUAAUUCCAUUAAAAAAUUUCAACUUAAUAGAUUUUUUAUUAUCAAUCAUAUGCAACAUUAUAUGAAGACAGUCUACUCAGCAUAUAUCCAAGUUUACAGAUUUUAAUAGAAAAUACUUACAAUCCUAAUGGUAGGACUAAGUUUUUUAAACUAGAAAAGUAAGAAGACUUAAUUUUUAACUUUUUAAGUACAAGGAUUAAAUUUUAAAUGUUGUCAAAGUACAAGCACUAACAAAAUAUUUUGAUCUAAUAAAUGUAAAAAACUUUUUAAACAAAAUAAGGUUUGAAAUAAUCUAUUUGUCCUUGUAAUUUUAUAAAUUUGAGAUUUAAUCUUUAUACUUAAAAGGUUAAAAAUUAAGUCUUCUUGUUUUUAUUUAAAAAUCUUAGUCCUAUUGUUAAUAUUAUUUUUUUUUUGCCAAAAUUUGUCAACUUUACAUAUUAAUUAGGUUUCCCUUAUAUGUCGUGGUAUAUGACUAACACAAAAUAAGCAAGUUGACAAAUUCUGACAAAAAAUAUCAAAGAUGAUAAUAAUUGGAUUAAAAUUUUUAAAUUGAAUUAAUAACCUUUAAUGUAUAAGGAAUGGAUAUCAAAUAUUUAUAGGAAUAAAGGGACUAACAACAUAUUUUAACCAGAAAAUAAUAUGAGUGAUUAGAAUGAAUCUAAAAUUUUAUAGAAAUAAAAGAGACUAACAACAUAUUGAUAACUUUCAAAUCUCCUUCGAUCAUCCUUUUUCUACGUAGAAAAAGAAAAUUAAUUAGCAUCUAAAGUGUCAAUUAAUGAAACCUUCAAAAGAAAAUGUGAAAGUGAUUUAUCAAACAAUAAUAUUCUAACUUAUAAUAUAUUUAAUUACAUUUAGUAAUUUAUCAAUCAAAACUUAUUUAACAUCCAUCAAUACUUCAUACAUAAAAAACGCAAGCAUAAAUUACCAUUUAACUCAGAUUUAACUUUGCAAGUAAACUUAAAAUUUUAUUUAAUUUUGUUACUAAAUUUGAUUUGUUCACUAUAGAGUUUGGUGACUUAAAAUAAAAGUAAUAAAAAGUUAUUCUUUCAGAUAUCUUUUUAAUGUUUAAUAAUAAAUUAAUUUAUAAAAUAUACUUUCAUUGGACACAGGCCUCCAAAGCGGUGAACCACUAAUCAAAUUAAUUUGGGGAUACCUAAAUUUGUUUUCAUCAAUUAAGAAAUUUAAAAAAUUGUUGAGACCUCAUGAUUAUCUUUUAUAAUUUCAGUCUUAUCACCAAAAACUAAAAAAUAAAAACGUCGACAUUAAAUUUGUUGGUAUGCAAUCAAUUUUAAGAUGGUUUUUGGGGUUAUAUAUCACUUUAGCAUUGACUUACUUUUCUACUCUUAGUCUUCUCCAACAAGUUAAAUAUUUGAAUUUUAACAACAUUGGCAGGUCUUUGGGGUAGGGUCGACCAAAACUUAAUAGAAACAGAUGAUAUAGGUUGAGUUGGCUCGGCCAAGUCGAGUCGACUUGUUCAAAUUAUUUAAAUUAGUAAAUUUUAGGGUGCAGUUAGAAUUUUUUGUUUUGAGAUGCUAAGAUUAAAAAAUUUCAGUUGCUAAAACAAAAAAUUUGUAUUUAAAAAGGCAUAAAUUAAAUAAUUAAGUUUUUCAAGUUUCCAUUUAAUCAAAGGUUAAAAGGACUAAAUUGAAGCUUUUUAUUUUUAAGAAAGGCUGAAUGCCAAAUUGCCCAAAGCCCAUGCCCCUAGCUAUACAACUAACUUUUCUAUGAUUAGUCCUUGGUUUGCUUUGGGUGGAAUCUUCCAACUAGCCUCAUCCUUCGUUUUACUUUCCAACAAUUAGUUUAUCAUGAGUUUUGUUUUCUUUAAAAAAAUAUUUUUGUGGAUAUUAGGAGAUAAUGAAAAUUAAUUUAGUAUGAAAUUUUAAUAAAACUGGAAAAUAAGUAAUUUAUUUAAGAGAUCACAAUUAAACGUUAGAUUUCCAAUUUUUAAAUUUUAAAUUAUUUUGACAAUUGCAUAAUAUUUUGAGCAUUGUAGGAAUGCCAUAAUCUUCCCUACGCAUAAUCGACUCUUGAGCAUGAUGGAUCCUAGGCCUUCUCCUCUAUUCUCGUACCACAAACUGCUUCGAGUGUGGAUUCGAACAAUCACAAAUUAAACACAAAACCAGAAAUGAUUUAUUACUUUCAAUAGCAAAGUAAUUCUCUCUCAAUAGAAACCAAUAGAAUUGUAAUUCCUAAAAAAUAAAAUUUAUUUUUGGAAAAUAUAUUCCCACUACUUUCUAGCAGAAUAAUAAUAUGUGAAACUUAUGUCUUGUGUUAAUAGCUCUACCAGCACUAUCUAUUUAUAGGGAGAGACGAGAAUCCUGGUUGACUUAGUAAAACACGAAUAAUAUUUAUUUCAUUGAAAACAAUAUUCCACCCUAAGUAGAUCAAGUUUGUAUGACGCAUGGAUCGAAGCUCAAUCUAGGAGAAAAAAAAAAGGAAUUUUCUUUGUAAAGAAAAUCUGAGAUUGUACUAUUUUCAAAGUUAUAAAUAAAAUUAUAAGCUAAAUUUUCAAGUCAAUUUUCAACUCCAAUUUUGUAUGCACAAAUUUCUAAUACACUUGGUGGGACAUUCUUUGACUUUUAUCUAUUCUCUCAAAAAGUUAAAGUUCAAAGUUGCAUUAAACUCAAAGAAGAUAAUCAUUAGUAAACCAGCUCACAAGCCUGCUCAAGCUAAUCCUACAACUUGUUCCACUUCAUCAUCAAACACCAAUGUUCUUGCUUAUCCUUAUGGAAUUAAACAGUCUCAUUUUCUGCAUUUUGGAUACACACCUAGUUUUGUUUGAUGCUAAAACAGUCCCUGAGCACUCCAAAGCCUAUAAUUGAACAAAUAACACUAAUUUAAUCUUACAUAACGUGAUCCCAAAUUGAACUUGUAUCGAGGUUUUAACCCAUAAGUGACUAAACUUUACCUUCAACCGAUGAACAGUAAUUCCCACAUAAACUAAGACUCCGAUUGGCGAUUACGAGCCCUUGAAUCCUCCCCUAAUUGGCAUAAACAAAACACUUCAGAAGAAAGUUAACAAACAGAGACAAAUCACUUAUCUAAAACUUACUGAAUGAUCACAGACAAACGUGGAGCGACACAAGGCAGAGUGGGAAAAGAAAAAUCAAGAGGAUGAAGGGUGAAAGAGAGCAGAAAUUCGGUAGCAAUAAAGAGAAAACGGUAAGAGGGUGGAGGGAUUUUGGGGAAAGUAAAAAAAAAAGAUGAACAGAAUAUUUGAUAACUACCCCAAUCCCUUAUUUCUCUCCAUCAAACUCUCCACUAAAUCCACUACUCGAAUUUUUAGUCCAUCUCAAACUCUCCUGGACGCAUGAGCAAAAAAUAAUGCCCAUGCCAAAAUUUGAACACAUGACCUCCUUCACACCAACACUCCACUUAUCCACUAGACCAACAGGCUCAUUCUUUUAAUUAUUUGUCAACUUUUACUUAAAAGCCUACUGACCAAAAAAUACCAAAAUUUGCCCAAGUCCUAGAUUGAACUUGGGACCUCCCAAACACACCCAGAACACAUAGCCAAUUUUCAAGCAAUCUGACAUGAAUUCUCAAUCACAAUUAAUUGAAUUCAAGAUAUAUUUGGAUGAGAAGACAAAUAUUUCAAUUUUAACACAAACCAAUGCUUGGGAUGAUUUGGGAUAAGAACUCCAACAUUUUAAGAUCACAUUUUCUUUUAUAAUUUCAGGCUUAUCAACUAUUUUGAAAACAACAAAACGUCUUACACCAAAAACUAAAAAAUAAAAACUUCGACAUUAAAUUUGUUGGUAUGCAAUCAAUUUUAAGAUGGUUUUUGGAGUUAUAUCUCACUUUAGCAUUGACUUACUUUUCUACUCUUAGUCUUCUCCAACAAGUUAAAUAUUUCAAUUUUAACAACAUUGACAGGUCUUUGGCCGAAUAAUUUUAAACGUCUCAUCAUUGCAAAAAUGAAAUAAUAGAAAAGAAAGAGUAGCCAUUUUAUGAAAUCUAUAAUUCCAACUGUGAAUAAAAUAUAAAUUUUAUGAAUGUGGACAAGCCAUUUUAUUUAUAAUUUUCUGUGUUUUUCUGACUUUUUUUAAGUCAUUUUCUUUGUUUCCUAACCAAAAAAUUUGCCCAUCACUUUAAAUAUAAAUUUAAAUAUAAAUUUUCUUUUUAAAAUAUAAAUUACUUGUCACAAUUCAUAUUUCUAAGUCAAUUUGCCAUCACUUUAACAUACACUAACUGUUCUAUGAUUAGUCCUUGGUUUGCUUUGGGUGCAAUCUUCCAACUAGCCUCAUCCUUGGUUUUACUUUCCAACAAUUAGUGUAUUACGGGUUUUGUUUUCCUUAAUAAAUAUUUUUGUGGAUAUUAGGAGAUACUGAAAAUUAUUUCACUAUGAAAUUUUAAUAAAACUGGAAAAUAAGUAAUUUCUUUUAAGAGAUCACAAUUAAACAUUAGAUUUCCAAUUUUUAAUUUUAAAGUUUUUUGACAAUUGCAUAAUUAAUAAGGUACCAAUUUUGAGAGUUGUAGGAAUGCUAUAAUCUUCCCUACGCAUAAUUGACUCUUGAGCAUGAUGGAUCCUAGACCUUAUCCUCUAUUCUCGUACCAGAAAUUGUUUCGAGUGUGGUUCGAACAAUCACAAAUUAAACACAAAACCAGAAAUGAUUUAUUACUUUCAAUAGCAAAGUAAUUCUCUCUCAAUAGAAACCAAUAGAAUUGUAAUUCCAAGAAAAUAAAAUUUAUUUUUUGAAAAUAUAUUCUCACUACUUCCUAACAGAAUAACAAUAUGUAAUACUUAUGUCUUGUGUUAAUAGCUCUACCAGUACUAUCUAUUUAUAGGGAGACACACGAGAAUCCUGGUUGAAUUAGUAAAACACGAGUAAUAUUUAUUUCAUAGAAAACAAUAUUCUACCUUAAGUAGAUCAAGUUUGGAUGACGCAUGGAUCGAAGCUCAAUCUAGGAGAAAAAAAUAAAGUAAUUUUCUUUGUAAAGAAAACCUGAGAUUGUACUAUUUUCGAAGUUAUAAAUAAAAUUAUACGCCAAAUUUACAAGUCAAUUUUCAACUCGAAUUUUUUAUGUACAAAUUUCUAAUAGACUUGGUGGCACAUUUUUUGAAUUUUAUCUAUUCUCUCGAAAAGCUAAAGUUCAAAGCUGCAUUAAACUCAAAGAAGAUAAUCAUUAGUAAACCAGCUCACAAGCCUGCUCAAGCUAAUCCUACAACUCGUUCCACUUCAUCAUCAAGCACCAAUGUUCCUGCUUAUCCUUAUGGAAUUAAACAAAAGACAAAAGCUCUCUAAGAGUUAUUUGAACAGACAAAAUAUUCAGAUGUGUUGAGAUGGAAAGUGACAACGCAAAGUUGAUUGAAACUAUUUGUAACGGGUUGGCUACAAUAAGUAGUGUUGUGAAGUAAGAUAGAUUCACGAUUGGUGUUCCAAAAUUGAGUAGCUAGUUAUCUUGGAAGAUCCUCCACAUUAUGUGAGAUGCUGGCUUGAAGAAGAUAUUAGACAAUUGCUAGUGACUGAUGAUAAUUUUCAUUUGGACUGAUGCUUGCUUAAUUUUCUAAGCUUAUGUUCAACCAAAAAAAAAAAAAUUAAAUAUGUCUAAAUGAUCAUAGAGUUAACAUUUAGUGUAUAAAAAAUUAAUAUAUAAUUUGUUUUCAAUUGUAGUUUAGUUCUAGAAAUACCAACGAUGAACCUUAAAACGGAAAUGAAAAUUACAAAAAAAAAAACAAACCACAUCUAUUAUCAAACCAACAAUCCAUGUCUAAACUUAAAUUAACAAAAUUCGUUACGCAACUCGGUACACUAUUUUAUAUAAUCAAUAUAUUAGAUUUAUUCUUGAUGCACAUGUUUUAUUAUAGUUAAAAAUUAAAAUAUAUGAUUUACUAAGUUUUAAUUGAAUUAGUAUUGGUAUUAUAUCAGUGUAGGAAAAUGUGAGUUUAAUCGUACUUAAAUAUGUAUCCUCCAACUCAACAGUUGGGAAAAGGUUAUUGAUAAUUAAAUUAUACCAAUUUUUACAAUAUCUAAAAAGCAUUCAUAAACAUAUUCAUAUUGAUGGGCUCUUUCAUUAUUAAACUUUUUUUCUCUCACAAGUAAAAGUACUUGUGGUGAGGAUCAUGUAAAAUAAUAAACUGAAUAAUUUUAAACGUCUCAUCAUUGCGAAAAUGAAAUAAUAGAAAAGAAGCCAUUUUAUGAAAUUUACAAUUCCAACUGUGAAUAAAAUAUAAAUUUUAUGAAUGUGGACAAGCAAUUUUAUUUAACUUUUUUUAAAGUAAUUUUCUUUGUUUCCUAACCAACAUGAAAUUACUUGUCACAAUUCAUCUUUUUAAAUGAGAAACAUUUUCAACAAUUUGCCAUCACAUCAACAUACACUAACUUUUCUAUGAUUAGUCCUUGGUUUGCUUUGGGUGCAAUCUUCCAACUAGCCUUAUCCUUGGUUUUACUUUCCAACAAUUAUUGUAUCCUCCUCAUUACUUUUACUUACCGACGGAUGAAAAAUUCACUGAUCAAAUUAAUUCAAAGAUUUUUUUUUUCUAAAUCAAGUGAAUUCACGAGUUUUAUUUUCUUUAAAAAAUAUUUUUGUGGAUAUUAGGAGAUACUGAAAAUUAUUUUACUAUGAAAUUUUAAUAAAAUUGGAAAAUAAGUGAUUUAUUUAAAGGGAUCACAAUUAAACAUUAGAUUUUUAAUUUUUUAAUUUUAAAUUUUUUUGACAAUUGCGUAAUUAAUAAGGUACUAAUUUUGAGCAUUGUUGGAGUGCUAUAACCUUCCCUAUGCAUAAUCGACUCUUAAAUUCACUUUUUUCUCUAGAAUUUUAACAAACUUACAAAAUGAUUUAAUGAUAUUUAAUUAUUGAUGGGUAAAAAAAUUAUAUCAUAUAAAUUCCGAAUAAUUAAUUAUAUAUCUACAUAUUAUAACCAAUUCAUCUUUCAAAAUUAUUUCCUUAUAAUUAAAGCAAAAAUUAUAUUUAUAAAAUUCUAAAUAUAUUAUAAUUCUUGUAAAUAUAUAUAUUUACAUAUAUAAGUCCAAAUUGUAAUAGAGUUAACAUUUAUUGUAUAAAAAAUGUCUUGAAAUUUUUUUUUUCAAUUUCAAAAGAACUAUUCCAUUUAUAAAACCAUAAAACUUUAAAAAUAUAAACUCUAUUAAAUAAAAAUAAUAAUAUUUUUAAACAAUAAAUAUUGACUUUAUUUUAAAUUGACAUUAUCUAAUUCUUUUUAAUAUGUAUCGCUAAGCUUUACAUUAAUAUACAUGAUUUAUUUGUUCGUUAUUAUUAUUAUUAUUAUUAUUAUUAUUAUUAUUAUUAUUAUUUCUAUGAUUAUUAUAUUAUACUUAUCGGACUACAAUCAUAACCAUGUCUAUUAUCAUUCGAUAAAAAAAAAUUAAGUGUUGAGUAUAAUGACAAGGCACAUUACACUCUGAAGGGGAGAUUAAGGUUUGGACAAAGGAAGAAUAUGAUUCAAAUUUUGGAGACAACAUUCUUGAAAUGAGCAACCAUAAACCCCGAUUAUGAACCAUAAAACGAUCAUGAAAAGUACCCAAAAAAACACAUUUAUUACCAAAUAGUAAUCCAUCUAAGGAUUAAAUUAACAAAAUUCACCAUCCAACCGUGUAGACUAUUAUAAAUAUAUAUACUAUAUUUAUUCUUCAUGCAAAUGUUUAUUAUAUUUAAAAAUUAAAAUAUAUGGUUGAUUGAGUUUUAGUUGUGUUAAUAUUGAAAUUAUUGUCAGUGCAAAAGAACAUGAGUUCAAUCAUGUUUAAAUACGUUUUAUACUCCAAUUUAGGAGUUGGAGAGGAUUCUCAAUAGUUAAAUUAUAUUAGUUUUUGUCUAUUUAAAAAUGAUUUAUAAAUAAUAUAAGUAGAAAAUUUUAAAAAAAAUACAUAUUCAUAUUGAUCGGCUUUUUCAUUAUUAGACUUUUUUCCCCACAGUUAAAAGUAUUUAUCGAAUUCAAAUUUUGGGUUUUAAAUAAGGGUUUCGGAUUUUUUUUAAACAUUUGUGUGAGUUUUUGCCAAAUUUUAUAUUUUCGGAACGAAUAACUAAGUUGAUUUUUAAUUACUUUUUCAAACAAGUCGAUGUAAUUCCUCAAAAAUCUAGUCAAAGCGUCUAGGCUGGGUUUGGAGGUGUUACACUAACGUUACUAAAGUUAAUCUUAAUCUAUUUAGUCUAGAUCUAAACAUCAAUAUUCUCUUCCAAGAAAAAUCAAGAUUAUCAAAUUAUUACAACUGUGUAGCCAGACAAUCAUAUUAAAUAUGCAUAAAACAUAAUAAAUAAUUAGCGAAGAUUGAAACAAUCAAAGAAAAAAAUAAAUAAAUAAACUAAGAAAUAAGGAUCCAUUAUUGUUUCAAGAAAACAGAGUUUAGUUCAUAUUGAGUUGAGAAAACCAGAAAGGAGAUUCAAAACAAACUUGUGAUAAGGGGAACAAUGUCAAUAGAUCAUAUUCAAGUUGUUCGACUUCAGAUUUGACCUGAAAAGAAGAAACCAAACAUAUUUAGGAAAACAAGAAAAAACAAAGAAAAAAAACUAAAAUGAGAAAUUUAAGAAUAAAUAAUAAAUAUUAAAAAUAAAUAAAGAAAUUAUAGAAUAAAAAGUGGCAGAUGGAAUGAAGAAAUGAUGGAUAUAAAUAAAAGAUGGAUAUGACAUAUAGAUGAAUAAGUGUCUGAUAACUCUUGAAAAAAAGUUAUAUUUCAUGCCUUUAGACCUAGCUAAUUGCUUGUACUUAAGUAUAUUUUGUUGCUUUUUAAGACAUUUUAGUGAGCAUUUUUAAUAUUGUAUUAGGACUUAGACUGAGUUGGAAUUAGGUGCUUUUAAUCGCUUGUGGUGGAGUUUUUUGUGUGUUGGUAUGGCAGGAACAGGUUUUAGAUCGAGGAAAUAAAUGAGUGAAGUUUUGUUUGGGCAAAAGUGCAUAUAGUUUUCCAACAAGGAUGCCGUGGCAAUGCCGAGAAGACCAAGUUCAUAUUUUUUGUGCAACAGUCCUAGUUCAAAUUCAAACUUGUAUGAGAUAAAUCCCCCUAAAAGAGGAGAAGAUAAUUACAUUGAUGUUAGUUGACCCUAGCCUAAUCUAUCUAUUAAAUCCAAUGAAAGGGAUCUCACAAAUGGUAGAAAAAAGUGAGAGAGAUCUUUAGGGGUGAAUAAGGGUUUGGCUGUGCAAAGGAAAAGAAGUCAAGGGCAAUCAUUCUUAGCCUUCACAGGACGUUUUGUUGCCAAAGUGUGGACUGGGCAAGUGAAAGCUGUUUCCCAAAGUUCUUCUGUUAUUUCCAUCAGUGUUCCUUCGAAAGAUUGAAUUGAAGUAGUUGAACACAAUGUCAGAUAAUAUUUUGGUUUGAAAUUCUAUUUCCCAGUUUAUGAGCUAAAUCUCAUAAGGUUGGGAUUACUUUCGAUGAAACCUUUAAUUUUUUUUAUGGAUGCAAUAUAUAUCUAAUUUACAUUACAGUUUCAUUUGAUUGUUCUUAUUUCUUAAUUAAAAUGCAAAUGAUCUCUAGACAUAGAAGACUAUUCACAUACUUAUAAACUGAUUAUAAUUCUAAAAGGGUUGGAUUAAAAUUAAAUGAAAUGAGCAAGUAUUUGAUAGACACUUGUAGCCGACUCCAGACAUAGAGUCACGAUCAUACAGAAGGAACCCAUGCAAGAUAUCUGAAAAGCCUUUAGACACAGGCAAGGCAACUUGAGGUUAUUCUCUCACACGAGGCAGACCAUUUUAGAACUCUUCUGUGUUGUAAAGUAGAUACGAUUUUGCCAAGGCAUUAUUGACAAUAAGGGUUGAUUCUGGGUAAUCCCGACCUUCCAAAUCCACAUCGUAUAUCCUUCAUUAUUUUCCAUAGUAUCUUUUCCACAUCAUUAUUAAUUAUUUAUUUGUUCAUUUACAUAAUAUUCCCAUAGUAAUUCUCAUAAUUGCCAUUACAUUUCUACUCUCGAUUUGCCAUAGCAUUACCAAAUAUUCAUUAAUUCCACAUAUUGAUUACAUCAUUACUCUACUCAUUGCCAUUGCAUAUUUAUCAUUGACUUUGUCACAACAUUAAUUGUAUUUUAUGAUAAUAACUUGAUCGAUUUUGUGCCUCAAUCUGAUCAUCGUGGGAAUGAUACUCACUCAUCAUUUAUUACUUGAUUCAACGUGUAUACUUGCACAAAUCGCAUAUCAUUUCACAUGCGACAAUGUCCAAUUGAACCCUUUAAGAUAUAAACUCAAACAAACUCAAUUAAUGGCUUUAAUCAACCCACCAAGAAAUAAUCCUUGGCAAAUUGAAGGAUGAAUAAUGAAUUCCCAUGACUCCUUAAAGAAAAUUGAGAAGAAAACUGCUUCUAAAAAUUACAAGAAACAAUCUUGCACAAAGAAACUAACCUUGAGAGUUGGAAAUUUUAGUAACGAACAAAGACAAUUGUGUCUCUAAUGACCAUGAAAGAGCUUUACAUAGGCUAGAUAAGUACAUCCAAAUAAAAUUUCGAAGUAUCUUAAAACUUUAAUUAAUGUAAGCAAAAAGUAAUUUUCAACUAAAAUAGUCAUAAUUUCCGUAAUAAUCCCGUCUAGAAAUUCUACUCACAUAGUCAUCACUAAAAUAGUCAUCAUUUGAGCUCUUGAACUAGAAAUUGAGUGAAUAAAAGUGUGUUUGAUAGACCUUAGAACUCCAUCAAGACAUAUCAAUCGAAAAAUAUUUGGAUCCCAUCCAAAAAGUCAUUGCAAGUUAACUGAUUUUCCAAACUUGAAAAUUGGCAGCUUCAGUGAAUGAAAUUUAAUAAAGUUCACCCCAUCUGCUCAUGUAUAAACUUGCAGUGGUAAAAAGUAAAAAGAAAUAAUCUAUAGAGAAAAUAGUUGAAGAAUUUAUGACAAUUUAUUCAGACCUUUUUUUCUUCUAGCCUUUGCAAGCUUGAAGUUUCCGUUGGUGUGUGAGAGUUGUUCCUUACCCUUUAAGUUAUUUCUUUUCUUUUCCUUCUUUUUCUUUCUCUUCGAUCUCAUCACCUAAGGGUGCUCAAACAACUGAUUCAGUUAAUACCCGAACAAAGCUAUCAUUAAAUGAAAUUUUGAAACCCUUAAUCAUUAAUGAAACCAAUUUUUUGUUGAAACCUAUUAACCGGCCGGAUUGAUUUCGGUUAAUUUGUGCAGUUAACCAGAAUUUAUACAUUGUUUGUUUUUUAUCAAACAAUUUUAAAACAAAGAACAAUCCAUGACAACUUUUUCCUUGUUUUUUAUUCAAAAAUUAUUAAAAGAACUAAAAAAAAUAACAUAAUAACAACACUAAAUUAAAAACAUAAUAGCAUUCAUUACAGUACAAAUCUUUUUUCUUUUUUUUCUUUUUGUUGACUUUUUAGUUUAAUUUUAGUUUUUUUUCAAAUAUUUUAGUUUUCAUAUUCUUGUUAAGCUUAUUAUAAGAAAACUUAUAAAUCCAUUAGUUUUUAUAUAUUAGGUUUGUAUAAUGUAUUGGAGCUAUCUCUAUAAUAUAUUUUUAUUGAUUUCGGUUAAUCAAUUAAUUCGGUUAAUUAGUCGAUUUCAAACGAAACUAAUUGAUAAACAAAAUCUUCAAAAACAUUUAACCAACUCCCAACCAAAUUAGAUUCGUUGAUCGCCUGCUUAAUCAAGUUAAUCAUAUGGUAAAAUGGCAUAGUUUUGGAAUGGUUUUUUGGAAUUAUUGGUAUAGGUUUAAGUUAUGAUCUUGAGAUGUUGAGUUGAAUUAAGUUUGAUAUGUAUAUUGUGAUGCCUUCAUUGGCAUAUUGGUUAGAUAUUAAAGGAUGGUUGAUUUGGUAUGUUUUUAAAAUGGUUGUUGGUAUGUGUGAUCUAAAUUGAUUAAAUGAACUUGUAAUGUUGAAUGGUAUAAUAUUUGUUGGUACAUUAGUUAGUCUUAUAGGUUGAUGGAAUUGGUAUGUUUUAAAUGUGUUUAAAAUGUGUUUUGAUUGUUUAAAUGUUUGUGGAAAUGGUGUGUCUUGGUGUACAAGAUUUGAAAUUGAAAUGGCUUGAUUUAGAAGCAACUUAUGUUGUACACCACCUGGGACACUGGUUGUCACAUGGUUGUGUGUCAUUAUUGUUUUAGGUACAGGUUUCACACAAUCUGAGACUCGGCUCACGACAUAGCUGUGUAUCACAAGUCAGUAUGUAACACGGUUUGGUACAUGGCCUGCGACAUGACCGUGUGUCCAAACUUCGAAUGUCCACACGGUCUGGGCUAUGUCACACGGGUUGGCCACAUGGCCGUGUGACCCUUGUUUUCAAGUUUUCUAAAAUUUUCUAUUUUAUUUCAAAUUGAUCCUAGAAUAUUCUCAAACUGUUUUUAGGGCCCGUAGGUUCGAAUUAAGGCCCAUAAGUGUAUGUUUGCUAUAAUUAAGUUGUGUUAAUUAAUGUUAUUAAUUAAAUGGCAUGAAUAUUUUAUUGUAAGUUAAAUGUUUUAAUUUGAACUAUAAUGCUCCGUAACUCUAAUCUGGCGACGGAGACAGGUUUGGGGUGUUACAAUUUUGGACUUGAAAUUUGUUUUGGGGCUUUGUUCGAUGUUUGUUGGAUUUUAGUGUUUUAACAUUAAACUACAAAAUUGUAUGAUUUAACAAACUAAAAAUUAGGUUUUCAAAAUUAAAACUCUGGAAGUUUCUGUUUCAAAGAUUAAGUAAUCACUUAAGUGUUUUCCCAUAAAUAAUUAAAUGGUUUUUAACAAAUGUUUUCCUUAGUUUUGGAAAUGAUAUGCCAACAUUAGUACUUUUAAAACACAUGAUUUCAAAUUCAAAUUCUUGGUUUUAAGUAAGGGUUUUCAAACUUUGAUUUUUUUUAACAUUUGUGAGAGGUUUUUGCCAAAUUUUAUGUUUUCAGAACGUGUAACUAAGUUGAUUUUUAAUUAGUUUUUCAAACAAGUCAAUGUAAUUCCUCAAAAAUCCAAUCAUAGCGUCUAGGUCGGGUUUGGGUUGUUACACUGACGUUACUAAAGUUAAUCUUAAUCUAUUUAGUCUAGAUCUAAACAUUAAUAUUCUCUUCCAAGAAAAAUCAAGAUUAUCAAAUUAUUACAACUUGGUAGGCAGACAAUCAUAUUAAAUAUGCAUAAAAGUUAAUAAAUAAUUAGCGAAGAUUGAAACAAUCAAAUAAAAAAUAAAUUAAUUAACUAAGAAAUAAGUUCCAUUAUUGUUUCAUGAAAAUAGAGUUUAGUUCAUAUUGAGUUGAGAAAACCAAAAGCGAGAUUCAAAACAAACCUGUGAUAAGGGGAACAAUGUCAAUAGAUUAUAUUCAUGUUGUUUGACUCAAGAAAGAAAUAUUCGAAUCUAACUUGAAAAGAAGAAACCAAAUAGAUUUAGAAAAAUAAGAAAAAAAAACAAAGAAAAUAACUAAAAUGAGAAAUUUAAGAAUAAAUAAUAAAUAUUAAAAAUAAUAAAGAAAUAAAGAAAUUAUAGAAUAAAUAAUGGAAGAUGGAAAUGAAACGACGGAUAUGACAUAUAGAUGGAUAAGUGUCUGAUAAUUCUUGAAAAGAGUUAUAUUUCAUACCUUUAGACCUCACUAAUUGCUUGUACUUAAGUACAUUUUGUUGCAUAUUGAGACAUUUUUGUUCGUAUUUGUAAUAUUGCAUUAGGACUUAGAUUGUGUUAGAAUUAGGUGUUUUUGAUCACUUGUGGUGGAGUUUUUAGUGUGUUGGUAUGGUAGGAACAAUAUUUAGAACGAGGAAAUAAAUGAGUGAAGUUUAGUCAGCGCAAAAGUGCAGAUAGUUUGCCAACACGUAUGCCGUGGCAAUGUCGGGAAGACCAAGUCAACAAAUUUUUGCGCAACAGUCCUAGUUCAAAUUCAAACUUGUACUAGAUAAAUCUCCUUAAAAGAGGAAAAGAUAAUCACAAGUUGUUAACCGACCCUAGCCUAAUCUAUCUAUAAAAGCCAAUGAAGGGGAUCUCACAAAUGGCAGAAAAAAGUGGAAGAGAUCCUUAGGUGCGAAUAAUGGUUCAGCUGCGCAAAGGAAAGGAAGUUGAAGGCAAUCUUUUUUAGCCAUCACAAGACGUUGUGCUGUCGAAGUGUGGACUAGACAAGUGAAAGUUGUUUCCCAAAGUUCUUUCGUUAUUUCCGUCAGUGUUCCUUCAAAAUAUUAAAGUAGUUGAACAUAAUGUUGGAUAAUAUUUUGGUUUGGAAUUUUAAUUCCUAGCCCAUGAGCUAAAUCUCGUAGGGUUGGAAUUACUUUUGAUAAAACCUUAAACUAUUUUUAUGGAUGCAGUAUAUAUGUAAUUUACUUUACUGUUUCAUUUUAUUAUUCUUAUUUCUUAAUUAAAAUGCAAAUGAUCUCUAGACAUUGAAGCCUUUCACAUACUUAUAAACUGAUUUUAAUUCUGAAAGGGUUGGAUUGGUUGGAUUAAAAUUAAAUGAAAUGAGCAAGCAUUCGGUGGACACCUGUAGUAGACUUUAGACAUAGAGUCACGCUCAUACAGAAGGAACCCAUGCAAGAUAUCUAAAAAGCCUUUAGACAUAGGCAAGGUAACUUAAGGUUUUGCUCUCACGAGAGGCAGGCCAUUUUAGUACUCUUUUGUGCUUUAAAGUAGAUACGAUUUUGCCAAGGCAUUAUUGACAGUAAAGGUCGAUUAUGGGUAGUCCCAACCCUCCAAAUCCACAUCGUAUAUCCUUUACUCUUUGCCAUAGUAUAUUUGCCACAUCAUUAUAAGUUAUUUAUUUGUUCAUUUACAUAAUAUUUCCGUUGUAAUUCUCAUAAUUAUCAUUACUUUCUACUCUCGAUUUGCCACAACAUUACUAGUUAUUUAUUAAUUCCACGUAUGGCUUACAUCAUUGCUCUACUAAUUGCCACUGUAUAUUUACCAUUGACUUCGCCAUAGCAUUAAUCAUAUUUUAUUAUAAUAACUUGACCAAUUUUGUGCCUCAAUUCGAUCCUCAUGGAAAUGAUACUCACUCAUCACUUUAUUUGUAACACCCCAAACUCGGCCUAGACGUUAUGGCCGAAUCUGGUGAUGUCACAUGGAGAGGGAUUUGAAGACAAGAUUGUUGAGUUUAAAAACCGUUACAGUAAGUUAGCUUUUAUUUAGGGAAAAUCGUGUUUUGUAGAGUUGUAGUUUUUAGGAAAAAAAUCGUGUUUUGUAGAGUUGUAGUUUUUUUAAAAAACCCAAUAAAAAAUAGUAUAAAGUCCCAAAUUUAAAACCAAUCAGUCCAUAGUCCAGAAGAUACAUCAAAAACUCAAAAUAAGUAAUAAAUUCUAGGCAUUAACGGAAAACAAUCUAAAAUUUACGUGUGGCCACCAUUGAGUCCUCUGCUGCACCGAUUCGUCAAGUCUGAGGAUUACCUAUACAAAUUAAAUAGAGAAAGGGUGAGUUGUCGCAAACUUAGUGUGUAAUCCCCACAGAAAACAUGCAUAGAGAUAAUUAACAAAAUUUAGUUAGAUACAGUCUAGGGCCUGUGCCCAUCAUAGAAUCAGUUUGGGCCUUAGCCCAUUCAGAUAUAGUCUUAGAAAUACAUUAGGGCAUUGACCAGCCUCUACAAACCACCUCCAUCCAACCAUACACACCAUGUGGGGAUUAAAUCAACCAACCCAUCCCUACACACCAUGCUGUACCGAAAUGCGGCACAUAAUUAGAAGGUUGCAGCUGGGCUGCCAGAUAACAUAAGUCAUGCUCGGUAUAGAAAUCAGACAGACAGAUCACACAUAUAGGUGUCUAAGUAAAGCUUACUGACCCUACAGUAGGUCCACAGUUAACUUGGGCGACCCGUGCAAAAUUACAGAACUUUUUAGAAAAAUGGGCUUACACGCCUAUGUGGCCCACUCGGCCCAAAUUGGCCUUGACCACGUGAUCCAUUUUUAAUGUAACCAGUGCUAGUUAAUUAUUCAUAUAUGUUUUCACUAUUUACUUAUAUGUUAAUUUAAAGCUGUCUACUUGAGUCACUGUUACUAAAUUAUUUAUAUCUUGAGCUACAGAAUUUCAAAUUAAGAUCCGCUUAAUGUCUUUGAAACUAGACUCAAAUAUCUUUCUACUAUAAAAUUUUUAUAAUUUUUGGUUGAGCCAACAAGUACAGUAAAAUCUUCAAACCUUCCCCUAUUCUGCUGUCUGACAACUUCAACCCUUCUUUGCUAAGAAUUAAUUAUCUCUUAGUACAAGAUUUGGAUGAUGUUUACAUUUGUUUCUAUUGAAAAUAAACUCAUUAAUAAUUUAAAAAUGUAAAUUUUAAACCCCUAAUUAUUUUUCUCCAAUUUUUGAUGAUUUUCCAAAUUUAGAACAGGGGAACCUUAAUUCUUUCUGACCUUGUCUCACGAAGUUUAUUAUACCUCACAAUUUACAAUUCCAUUACUUACAUCGUUUAAGAUUUAAUUCCAUAUUUUUUUCAUCCUCUAAUUCAAUUUCCACAAUUUAUGGCAAUUUUUCAAAGUUAACCUACUGUUGUUGUCCAAACAGCAAGCAAUUUUGGCUUUUCGCCGAAUCCUUUUUUUUGCAUUUCGGGUACACACCUGGUUUUGUUUGAUGCUAAAACAAUCCCCGAACACUCUAAAGUCACCAAUGAUAACCAUCCAUUUAAAUAUUGUUAACACGAGAACACUGAAUUCACUAGUCCGAGUCUCCCCCUACGCCCAAAUCGCAGAGAAAAUACGUUACCACUUUAGUCGCUAAAAGAUUCAUGAUAGAAAAGAAGAGAAACACUUACCGAACUAAGCGAGCACUAACCGUGUGUGAAAAUGAAGGAAAAUAAAUGGAUUAGGGAAAAAUCAAGAACAAGAAAAAGAAGAAAAAGAAAAACUCAGAGAAUUUCAACAAGAGGAGAGGGAGAAGAAUAGACGGCGAAUAAAAUUCUGAUAACCCCCAAAAUCCCUUAAUCUUCUCCCCUAAUUCCCACUACACAUCCACUAUUCAUAACCCCCUAUUACAUAACUCUAUCCGAAAUCUGAUAAAAAAAAACAUAAUACCCUUGCCUGCAUAGGGGUUCAAACACAAAACCUCUACUAUAAUAACACAUCAUUUAACCACCAGACCAGCAGGCCCAUUCUGAUGUAAUUUACCCAAAAAUCAAAUAAAAGCCUACUCAACAAGAGUAAAGCCUAAUUCAUUCAAAAUACCAAAAUUUGCCCAAGCAAAAGCUUGAACUUGGGACCUCCCAAACACUCCCAGAACACAUAACUACUAAAGCUGACAAAUAUUUGUGUCAUAUUUUCACAAUAAUGAAAUUAGAAAUUUUGGGACAUUACAUUAUUACUUGAUUCAACUCUUGCACAAAUCGCAUAUCAUUUCACACACAACAGUGCUCAAUUGAACCCUUUAAGAUAUGAAAUCUAACAAACUCAAUUAAUGGCUUUAAUCAAUCCACCAAGAAAUAAUCAUUGGCAAAUUGAAGGAUGAAGAAUGAAUUCCCAUGACUCCUUAAAAAAAUUGAUAAGAAAACUACUUUUAAAAAUCACAAGAAACAAAUCUUGCAUAAAGAAACUAACUCUCAGAGUUGGUAAUUUUAGUAAUAAACAAAAACAAUUGCGUCUCUAAUGAACAUGAAGGGGCCUUUACAUAGGCUAGAUAAGUACAUCCAAAUAAAAUUGUCAAAUAUCUUGAAACUUUAAUUAAUGUAAGCAAGAAGUAAUUUUAAACUAAAAUAGUCAUAAUUUUCGUAAUAAUCCCGUCUAAAAAUUCUGCUCACAUAGUCAUCAUUAAAACAAUCAUAAUUUGAGCUCUUGAACUCAAAAUUGAGUGAAUAAAAGUGCGUUUCGAAGUUAAGUGAUAGAUCCUAGAACUCUAUGAAGACAUAUCAAUCAAAAAAAUAUCUGGAUCCCAUCCAAAAAGUCACCGCAAGUUAACUAAUUUUUCAAACUUAAAAUUUGGCAGCUUCGGUGAAUGGAAUUUAAUAAAGUUCACUCCAUCCAUUCAUGUAUCAACUUGCAUUGGUAACAAGUAAAAGAAAAAAAUCUAUAGAGAAAAUAGUUGAAGAAUUUAUGACAAUUUAUUCAAAUCUCUUUUUCUUCUAGUCUUUGCAAGCUUGAAGUUUCCCUUGGUGUGAGAGAGUUGUUCCUUACCCUCUAAGUGAUUUUUUUCUUUUUCUUUCUCUUCGAUCUCGUCACCUAUUGGUGUUCAAACAAUUGAUUCAGUUAAUACCCGAACAAAACUAUCAUUAACUGAAAUUUUGAAACCCUUAAUCGUUAAUCAAACCAAUUUUUUUAAAAAAAACCUAUUAACUAGCUGGAUUGAUUUCGAUUAAUUUUAGCGGUUAACCAGAAUUUAUACAUGGUUUUUUUUUGUUCAAAAAAUUUUAAAACAAAGAACAAUCCAUGACAAUUUUUUCCUUGUUUUUUAUUGAAAAAAUUAAAAGAACUAAAAAAAUAACAUAAUAACAACAAUAAAUUAAAAACAUAAUAGCAUUCAUUACAUUACAAGGCAUAUAUAUAUAUUUUUACUUUUUCUUCACUUUUUAGUUUAAUUUUAUAUUUUUUAAAAUAUUUUUAGUUUUCAUAUUUUUGUUAAGCUUAUUAUAAGAAAACUUAUAAAUCCAUUAAUUUUUCUAUAUUGGUUUUGUAUAAUGUAUUGGACUUAUCUCUAAUAUAUUUGGCCUAUAAUAUAUUUUUAUUGAUUUCGGUUAAUCAAUUAAUUCGGUUAAUUAGUCGAUUUCAAACUAAACUAAUUGGUAAACAAAAUCUUCAAAAACCUUUAACCAACUCCCAACCAAAUUAGAUUUGAUUGCUUAAUCAAAUUAAUUAGGUUUGAUAAAUUAAUUCGUUAAAACCAAAAAAUCCACACCCCUAUCAUCACCUUUAUUUUUAGGGAUUUUAAUCAUGUUGCUGCACCUGAUGCAGAAGUUGAGGUGGAACGAACUGCUUGCUACCACAAUUUAUGAAUUAUAGAGCAUGCUCCACCGUAGUGAAUCAAAUUCGGUGGAGUAGAAGACUUUUCUUCACUACUUUAUGCUCUAUGCUCCAAGUCUUCUAUUCUUCUUCUGAGACCUACAAUGGGAAAAUAAAAACUAAGAAACAAGUCUAAACUAACUUUGAAAAUUAGAAAUUUUCAACAAAAUUGAAAUAAAAUAUAAUUAAUCCAUAAAAAACUAUAAAAUGCAAUAAAAACAAACCUAAAUACUAAAAUUACCUCCUAAAAUGCUGUGGAAACUAUACUAAAAUAACUCUAAAUAUGAUAGUUAUCAGAAGCGACUUGAAUAAGCCAAUCGAGUAGAUGAUUUCAACUAUUGCAAAUAGCAUCAGUCGAUUAACCAUCCUCUUGAGAAGAUCAUAGAGUUGAAAGAAAAAAUCAUACAACUCCAUGAAGAAGAAAAAAUCAUGUUUGAAAAAGAAGUGGCAUUAUCAAACUUGACAUCAAUGCUUUGGUUUCUCAAUACAAUAUUAAGGAGAAAUUCAUCAAAUUUGGCUCUUUCACUCCUAUUACACUAGCUCUAAGUAGAAGUAAGAUGGUGAAUUUCGAAGGGAUUGGGGACAAUCAUCUAUUUUUGGAAUAUCAGAAUGGUCAUGAUUGGACUCAAAGAAGCCAAUGAAAUGCAUCUCUCCUAGGUAUAAGCUUAUAUUGUCACAUUGCUCCUAAGCACGAGCAUAAAUUGUUCAUCCAAAAUGAUGAUGCUCCUAAGCAUGAGCUUAAACUGUUCAUCUAAUGCUCCUAAGAAGGAGCCUAAACUAUUCAUAAAAAAUAAAUGAUGAUCCAGUGAAGCACGAGAUUAAACUAUUCAUACGAAAUAAAUGAUUACCUCCUAAGCAUGAAUUUAAAUUGUUCAUACAUAAUAAAUGAUGAUACUCCUAAGCAUGAGCUUAAAUAGCAGUCCAAAAAAAAUUGAACAACAUUAUAACUUUAUCUUUUAAAAAUGAAGGUACGUAGAUAGCCUGGUUUCAUUGCCAAGUUCAGUCAGUGAAACAAAUUCUUGAAAGUAGGAAGCAAAUAAAAUUUCAAGACUUGUACCCUUUCUACGCCCAACAAAAUUCAGAAUUCAGCAUUUGUUAUUACUGUUUAUCUCUAACUAAAUUAAUGAAAAGAUAAAUCAAGAAAUUAAAUCCUUUUAGAACUGUCUUAUAAAGAAACCAUAUUCUUUAAGGAUUACUUUAUCUAUAAUUAAUUAAAUUAAUAAGAUAUGAAUAAUAAUAAUAGAGUUUAAAUUCUUAUAGAACACUCAAAUGAAAAAGCUAAAUUCUACAACAACUCUCUUAUAUCAAAGUGAUUGGGCACUAUAAAAAUGGGUCACCUCCAAGUCAUUCUACACAUUCACAAGUUCAAGAAGUUCAAAAAUUCUUUACGAAAAUAUGAAGAAACUAAAGAAGUAGAAGAAAUUCUGAUGAACAUCAUAUCAGUUCUAAAGAAAAACUGCCUCCUAUCCAAUUCAAUUGAGAGGAGGAUGUCAACAGAAGAGAAGAAUCGAAGAAGUUUUGUUUGUAAAUAAAUUCAAAACUAUACACUCUUCGAAAUAAUAAAUAAAAUUUGACGCAAAAUUUUCAAGUCAAUUCUCAACUUAAAAUUUGCGUGUACAAUAUAUAUAGGAAAGAAUCCAUUUACAUUAUAUAAAACUAGUGUAUGUAUAAUACAGAAAUAUUUAGUACAUUAUCAAUAAAGUUUUUAAACUAUGCACUGUGAUUAAAACCAAAAUAAUAAUAAUAAUAACAACCAAUCACUUUAUUUGACUAACUUUUCCCUACAAGUCUUUAGUAUGGAGACAAAUCAGUUUAAUCAGCCUUUGGAGCUAUUAACUGACAUUUCCACCAUUGAUUUGAAAAUCCUAACCCAUCAAUUCACUUUAAAUGAAACGAGAUCCACUAGUGUUUGGUGUUAUAUUUUUAAAAUGUAUUUAGAUUAUUGUUUAUUAAUUUUAUUUGUUUAUAUUUAAAUCAAAUGUAAUAAAUUGUUGAAUUUAUAUACUUCAUAUUAUAACAAUAUAUUUUAACUUGCUACUUCUCUUUUUAAUUUAAUUUUUUGUAACUCUUCACAAUUUAUUUUGAAAAAAAUUGAAAAAACUAAAUGAUUAAAUUAAGGCUCAACUUUUCACUAACCUUAGUUUAUUUAGUCUAACUUUUCACAAAUUAAUAUACUCAUUUCAUGUUUCAUACCAACAACUUUUCUUUUUGGUAAAAAGAAAAAACAACUAUACGUUUUUUUUAAUCCCAAAAUUAAGGCUUUAUGAAUGAAAAUAAUAUUAUAUUAACUAUGAUAAUUAAGUCUUUAUUUUUAAUAUGAUUAAUAUUAUAUAUAAUAACUUUAAAUAUGCUUCCACUAAUCAGAUAUACUAAAGGAAAGAGUAACUUUCUUUUUAUGGUAACUAAUUUUCAAUUAUGUAUUUUAAUCUAUCACUAAAUAAUUAAUUAUAAUCAAGAUGUUAAUUUUCCAUAAAAUGUACAUAAUUUUGGUUGGUAUAUUAAUAAAUUUAGCCCUAAAAAUUUACACAUGCAAUUUGGUCUUAAUUUAACAAAAUUUUCCCGCAACAUUUGUGUAAAUAUGUAAAUGUUGAGGUUAAAUUUCUUGAAUUUUUUUUAAAAAAUUAAGGUCAAAAUGACAAAAAUAUAAAUAUUGAAAACUAAAUUUAUUACUGUACCAAUCAAAAUGACAAAAUAUAGCUAGGGACAUGGGCUUGACCGAGCCAACUCAACCUAUUUCAUCUGUUUCUAUUGACUUUUGCUCGACCCUACCCCAAAGACCUGUCAAUUUUGUUAAAAUUGAAAUAUUUAACUUGUUGGAGAAGACUAACUGUAGAAAAGUAAGUCAAUGCUAAAGUGAUAUGUCGACGUUUUGUUGUUUUCAAAAUAGUUGAUAAGCCUGAAAUUAUAAAAGAUAAUCAUGAGGUCUUAAAUGCAAUUAUGAUAUUUCUAAAAAGAUAUUUCUCAACAAUUUUUUUAAUUUCUUGAUUGAUGAAAACAAAUUUAGGUAUUUCCCAAUUUGUAAAAACAUGAUUUUUCUUUGAAUUUCUAGGUUUUUCUUAGCUUUUUUUUAUAUUAUUUUGGAAUUUUUGUAAUCUUCUUAUAAUUUCUUAAAAAAUAAUAUAUUUGUAAAAAUUUUUAAACCAUAAAUACCAAUUAAGAAGAAUGUGAUAAAAUUAGGGGUAAAUGUGUAUUUAAGCCAAAGAAAAUAAAAGAAUAAUAAUGAAAUUCACCUAAAAACAAUUACAAGGACUAGAUGAACAAUUUGACCUAAAACUUUGUUUGAAAUGAUGUCAUUAAUGUGUUACAUCAGCUUUCUUAGAGAGAUAAAAAUUAAAUGAAUAUGAGAUACAUGAAACUUGUAUCUCUUUCCAAUAAUUUAACAUUAUUUCAAUAUUUUCAUCUUGAAUUCACGAGUGAAGCGUACAUCAUAUACCAACUCAAUUGGAAAAAAGUCUUUAAAUUAUUUUUAAAUUGUAACAAAUAUUAUUAUUAAGAUGUUUUUCUUUUUAUAUUUUUUAUAAAAUAUAUUAAAAAACAAUUAAAAUAAUUUUAAGAGAAAAAAACUCAUACAAGGUAGAAUUUAAUCUAAAGAUGUCAAAGUUUUAAAGCCUCAACUUUAACAUUUCAACCGAAAUUCCAUUAGUAUAUAAAUAUUUAUAAAUAUAGAUUUUAUAUAAAAAAUUUUAUGUAAACUUUUUUUUAACCCGCAUCACAAGUACACCAUAUUUAGAGAUAUUCAUAGUUAGGCAGUCCACUUUGAGUCAAGCUUGAGCUUAGGUUUUCAAUCUCAAGUUGGCCCAAUUCAACUUAUUUUACUACUUAAAAAUAUAAAUAUAUGUUAUAUUGAUAUUUAUAUAUGUCUAUAGUUAAAAAAUUAUUAAAAAUAAAUUCAACUUAUUUAUUAAUUAAAAAUAUAAAUAUAUGUCUAUAAUUAAAUUUUAAAGAAAUUUAUUGUUAUUUUCUAAACAUAAAACAAAGAAAACUUUCACCCAAAUUAUAAGUUUGUGGUCAGGCAGCCCACUUUGGGACUGGAAUCAGCUUACUUUUUUAAUCUUGGGCUUUAAAAAUAAUAAAAAUAUAAAAAUAAUGUUCUAUUAAUAUUUAUAAAUUUUAUAAAUUUAAAUUUAAUUAUAUUUUUUAAACAGUAAAAUCAACCAUUUAUAUGGGCUAAAUUGAGUUAAGUUCGGUUUGCAUCAAGCCUUAACUUUGACCAAAUCCAACUAAAAACACCUCUAACCAUAAUCUAGUAUUGUUUUUAUGAAUUCAAUUUUAACUUGUAAUUUUCAAUUCUAUUACAAAAUUUCUUUGCCUACGAUAAGAAAAUAACAUAUUUGUAACUAAGUAAUUAAUUAAGUUAAUGUCACGAGUGAAUCAUACAUUAUAUGCCAACUCAAUUGGAAAAAGUUUUUAAAUUAUUUUUAAAUUGUAACAAAUAUUAUUAUUAAGAUGUUUUUCUUUUUAUAUUUUUUAUAAAAUAUAUUAAAAAACAAUUAGAAUAAUUUUAAGAGAAAAAAACUCAUACACGGUAGAAUUUAAUCUAAAGAUAUCAAAGUUUUAAAGCCUCAACUUUAACAUUUCAACUAAAAUUCCAUUAGUACAUAAAUAUUUUAUAAAUAUAGAUUUUAUAUUAAAAAAAUUAUGUAAACUUACAUAUAUGGUUCGUCAUGCAAAUGUUUAUUAUAUUUAAAAAUUAACAUAUAUGGUUAUUGAAUUUUAAUACUGGCUUGAGGAGUCGACUCUAUUGUAGAUUCUAGAUUAAUCUAAUAUUUCACCCUCUUUUAAUUUUCUUUAUUGGAAGAGUCUUUAAGAGAUAAGUUAAGUAGUAUAGCAGUUUCAUCUAAAACAACAUCUCUGCUAAUCACAACUUUUCUAUUUUUAGGACACCAUAACUUAUACCCUUUUACAUCAGCUUUAUAACCAAUAAAAACACAUUUAAUGAAUCUCGGUUCCAAUUUUUCAUUAUCAACAUGAGCUUACGAAGGACACCCAAAGAAUUUAAUCUAAAGAUAUCAAAGUUUUAAAGCCUCAACUUUAACAUUUCAACCGAAAUUCCAUUAGUAUAUAAAUAUUUUAUAAAUAUAGAUUUUAUAUAAAAAAAUUUUAUGUAAACUUUUUUUUAACCCGCAUCUCAAGUGUACCAUAUUUAAAGAUAUUCAUAGUUAGACGUCCACUUUGGGUCAAGCUUGAGCUUAUGUUUCCAAUCUCAAGUUGGCCCAAUUCAACUUCUUUUACUUUUUAAAAAUAUAAAUAUAUGUCUAUAAUUAAAUUUUAAAGAAAUUUAUUGUUAUUUUCUAAACAUAAAACAAAGAAAACUUUCAUCCAAAUUAUAAGUUUGUGGUUAGGCAGCCCACUUUGGGACAGGAUUCAGCUUACGUUUUUAAUCUUGGGCUUUAAAAAUAAUGUUCUAUUAAUAUUUACAAAUUUUAUAAAUUUAAAUUUAAUUAUAUUUUUUAAACAGUAAAAUCAACCAUUUAUAUGGGCUAAAUUGAGUUAAGUUCGGUUUGCAUCAAGCCUUAACUUUGACCAAAUCCAACUAAAAACACCUCUAACCAUAAUCUAGUAUUGUUUUUAUGAAUUGAAUUUUAACAUGUAAUUUUCAAUUUUAUUACAAAAUUUCUUUACCUACAAUAAGAAAAUAACAUAUUUGUAACUUCUCCAAUUCGACGUAAAUGUUCAGUCUGAAUUCAGAAGAUUACAUCAGCCAUAAAGAUGGCCUAGCAAGGUUAUUAGAGUUUUCAAAAACAGGCAUCUUUAAAAUGCUUGUUUAAUUUAUACAAAAACUUAUUUAAUUUCCAAAUUAUUUAUUACUUGAAAUCUUAAUUAUACUUUGAAAGCAAGAAGUGGUAACUAUUUAUUUUUAAUAAAAAUCAGGGUUCAUGUAUAAUUGAUUAAUAACUGUUAGAAUUAAGCGACCCGAAUCUUUAUUUAAAUGAAAUACAGUGGUAAAAUAAAAUAAAAUUAAAAUCCCUAUAGAACUACACUUAUUUUAUUUUAUUUUAGAAUAAGGAUUUUUAAACCUUAUUAAACUCCAUCCAUUUGAUAUUGAUUAGAAUAAGGUGUUUCAAUCUUACUACACUCCUAUUAGAAUAUGGUUUUACAAGCCUAUAAAUAGACAUAGUCUACUCCUCUUGUAAUUAUUCGAAUUCGACAUAGGGAUUUAUCUUCUCCUCUACCAAUAGCUUUUUCCCUGAAAGGGUUUCCACGUAAAAUCUGUGUGUUUUUUUUAUUUUUCUCCCUUUUAUUCUUUGCAAUACAUUGUCAUUACCAACAUUCUAUUUUUAGCAAAUUGGUAUCCAAGCUUCCAAUUUGUUCAUCUCAAUCAUGGUAAUGGCGUCUUUGAAGUAUGAAAUUCUGCUAUUGGAUCGCAACACCAGAUCCGCAUUGUGGCAGAUAAAGAUGCAGGCAGUUCUUACACAGAUAGACUUAGAGGAAGCCUUGCUAGGGGUAGAUAAAAUGUAUUCAACAUUAACAGAGGAAGAGAAGAAGCACAAGGAUCGAUAGGCGUUAACACAAUUACAUCUUCAUUUGUCCAACGAAAUUUCACAGUAUGGAGAAGACCGUCGCUGGAUUAUGGAAGAGGUUGGAACAAAUAUGUACGUCGAAUACUCUAACUAGCAAGUUGCAUAUGAAGCAGCUUCUUUAUGCUCAUCGUUUGGAGGAAGGUGUCUCUAUGCACGAACACUUAAUAGUGUUUAAAGGAAUUCUCUCGAACUUAGAGGUCAUGAAGGUUCAGUAUGAUAAUGAAGAUCUACGAUUGAUUCUACUUUGUUCGUUGCCUCUAUCUUAUUCAACCAUUAGAGAUGGGAUUUUAUAUAGCCGCGAGUCUCUCACAGUUGAUGAGGUUUAUGAUUCUUUAACCUCGUAUGAUAAGAUGAAGCAUCUUUUUCGUAAAACUGACUCUUAGGGAAUGGGUCUCAUUGUUCAUAGUAGAUAAGAUCAGAAUGCUGAUGAUGAUCGUGAAAGGACACAGGAAUAGAAUUCUCGCGAUAAAUCUAAGGAUAGAUCAAAGAUUUCAAGCAGAGGUAAAACUUGUAACUUCUGCAAGAAGAAAGGGCACAUUAAAUCUGACUGUUAUAAGCUACAAAUCAAUAUCAAAAGGGAGGUUGUGAAACAAAAUGGAAAACAACUAGAAUAUGUUGGUAAAGCUGAUGUUGUAGAAGACUAUAGCGAUGGUGAACUUCUAGUCACUUCUAUCAACAAUUCUAAAAUAAGCGAGGAGUGGAUCCUUGAUUUGGGCUGCACCUUUCACAUGAGUCCCAAUGGAUAUUGGUUUAUAACUUACGAAAUAGUGUUUGAAGGUGUUGUUUUGAUGGGAAAUAAUGCUUUAUGUAGAAUUGCAGGUGUUGGGACAAUAAAAGUUAAGAUGUUUGAUGGAGUUCUCAGAACACUUAAUGACGUACGACAUGUUCUAGAAUUGAAGAGAAAUUUAAUUUCAUUGAGUACUCUUAUUCAAAAGGUUAAAAAUACAUAGCUAAAAGUGGGGUUUUUAAUAUUUCCAAAGGUUCUCUCGUUGUGAUGAAAGGGCAGAGAAAGACUGCCAAGUUAUAUGUUUUGUAGGGUUUAGGAGUUCUUUGGCAUAUACGCCUAGGGCAUAUAAGUGAGAAUGACAUGGCAGAAUUGAGCAAAAGAGGACUUCUUGAUGGGCAAGGAAUUUGCAAACUGAAGUUCUGUGAUCACUGUAUUUUUGAGAAGUAAAAGAGAGUUCGAUUCAUCAGAGGAAUCUAUAACACGAAGGGAACAUUGGAGUAUAUUCAUUCUGAUCUGUCGGGGACACCCAGAGUGCAUUCAAGAGGUGGAGCUAAUUAUAUGCUAACUUUUAUUGAUGAUUUUUCUAGAAAAGUUUGGGCGUUCUUCCUAAAGCAGAAAAUCGAUGUGUUUUUCGCAUAUAAGUCUUGGAAAACUAUGAUUGAAAAACAUAUGGAAAAACAAAUAAAAUAUCUCCACAUAGAUAAUGGCUCAAAGUUCUGUUCUAAUCACUUUAAUAAACUGUGCAAGUCAGAAGGGAUCGUGAGACACUUGACAGUUUGCCACACUCCACAACAAAACGGUGUUGCAGAACGAAUGAACAGAAUGAUCGUGGAGAAGGUUUAAUGUAUGUUUUCAAAUGCCAACUUAACAAAGUUGUUUUGGGCCGAAGUAGCCUCUACUAUAUAUUUUUUGAUCAACCGAUCUCUAUCUAUUGCCAUUGAGAAAAAGACUCCACAAGAGGUAUGGUCUGGUAAUCCUGCUAACUGUUCUGAUUUAAAGAUCUUUGGGUGUCCUGUGAAUGCUCAUGUUGAUAAUGGAAAAUUGGAACUGAGAUCCAUUAAGUGUGUUUUUCUUGGUUAUAAAGCUGGUGCAAAAGGGUAUAAGUUAUGGUGCCCUAAAAAUAGAAAAGUUGUGAUUAGCAGAGAUGUUGUUUUUGAUGAAACUGCUAUGCUACCUAACUCAUCUCUUAAAUACUAUUCCAAUAAAGAAAAUAAAAAGCAGGUGGAGUAUCAGAGUAAUCCAAAAUCUACAACAGAGUCGACUCCUCAAGCCAAUACAAAAAUUCAAAAUAGAGUUGCUUCUUUACCACAAUACUCUAUCGUAAAAAAUAAAACUAGAAGAGAUAUUAAACCCUCAAAGAAAUAUGCCGAGGCUGAUCUAGUUGCUUAUGCUUUAAAUAUUGCUAAAGAUAUAGAUGCAAACCAAGAGCCAUCUAAUUAUUUUGAUCCGGUUAGCUAUAAAGACUCAGAAAAAUGGAUGUUUGCUAUGUAAGAGAAGAUGGAAUCACUCUACAAAAACAAAACAUGGGAUCUUGUAAAACUUCCUAAAGGUAAAAAGGUUGUUCGUUGUAAAUGGGUGUUUAAAAAGAAAAAGGGGACUCUGGGAGUUGAAGAACCCAGAUUUAAAGCAAGGCUUGUUGUAAAGGGUUACAGUCAAAUUCCAAGAGUGGACUUCACAGAUGUGUUCUCCCCAGUUGUGAAGCAUAGUUCGAUUUGAGCUUUGCUUGGUAUUGUGGCCAUGCAUGAUUUGGAGCUAACUGUAAAAACUACAUUUUUGCAUGAAGAACUUGAGGAUGAUACUUACACGCAACAACCAUAGGGUUUUAUAGUCUCAGAAAAAGAGGACUAUGUUUGCCUGUUGAAAAAGUCCUUUUACGGUUUGAAACAGUCACUAAGAAAGUGGUACAAGAGGUUUGUUUCCUUUAUGACUUCUUAUGAUUUUAAAAAAAGUAGCUUUGACAGUUGUGUUUACUUUAAGAAAAAUAGUGAUGAUUCUUUUGUGUAUCUACUUCUUUAUGUUGAUGACAUGUUGAUAGCAACAAAAGAUAAAUGAGAGAUAAGAAAGGUUAAAGCCCGACUAAGUGAAGAUUUUGAGAUGAAAGAUUUGGGACCAGUAAAGAAGAUACUUGAUAUAGAGAUUCUCAGAGAUAGAAAAGUAAGUAAAUUGUACCUAAGUCAGAAGGGGUACAUUGAGAAAGUUCUUUGCAAAUUCAAUAUGCAGAAUGCUAAGCCUGUUAGUACUCCUUUAGCAGCCUAUUUCAGACUUUCAUUGGCUUUGUCUCUACAAUCAAAUGAUGAGAUUGAGUACAUGUCAUAUUUUUCAUACUCUAGUACAAUGGGAUCUCUCAUGUAUGCUAUAUUUUGUUCACGUCCAAAUUUAUUAUAUGCAGUCAAUACAGUUAGUAGAUAUGUGGCAAAUCCUGGUAAAGAACAUUGGAAAAUACUGUUUCCAAAAAUUUAUGGAUUUCUGGUGAGUGAACUUCUAGUGAAAUUAUUGUGCUAAGUCCAUUGGGGCAGUCUGUUUGAGUAAGUACACUUUAUAGGAAUGUACCUUUGGAAGUACAAGGGAUUGUGUUUUCGGCAGAUCUGGUGAGGUUACUUCUAGUGAAAUUAUUGUACUAAGUCUGUUGGGGUAGUCUAUUCGAGUAAGUAGACUUUAUAGGAAUGUACCUUUGGAAGUACAAGGGAUUGUGUUUUCGGCGUUUUAUUCACAUAAAAGCAGCAAAAUUUAGCGACAUUGUCUACAGCGGCAUUUUUUACGGCGCUUGUGAAAGCGCCGCUAUAGGCCUAAAAAACACCGCUAAAAGCCUAUUUUGCUGCAGUGAAUUAAUAUUAUUAUAAGUAUAUUUUCACCUUUUCAUUCUUUUAUAUAAUCUUCAAGUAAAAUGAUUGAAAAAUAUUAUUUGAGAAUCAAACACAAGACUAACAAUAUUCAUAUAGAAAACGCUUAUCACUCCACUAAUAAUCAUUUGUUGAUGUAUUUUUGGUAAAAAGAGCCCUCCAAUCCCUCUUAAUUUCACAACUUCUCAAAUUAGUCCCUCUCAAAAAAAUUGGAGCAAUUUAAUCCCUAUCAAUUUUGAAAGUGAGUAACUAAGGACAAUUAAUUAUGGUGUUAAAUUCUUCAAUCAAUUGUACAUAAUUUUGAUUGGUAUAAUAAUAAAUUUAGCCUUUAAUGUUUAUGUAUUUUGUCAUUUUGGCCUUAAUUUUUUUAAAAAAAAUUCAAGAAAUUGAACCUCAACGUUUACAUAUUUGCACAAAUGUUGCAGGAAAAUUUUGUUAAAUUAAGACCAAAAUGCAAGUGUAAAUUUUGUUAAAUUAAGACCAUAUUUUCCCCCUUUAUUUUUUCAGUGCCGACCGGAAAAAAAAAUUUCAGUCUCAUCUAAAUAAGACAUACUUCAGCAGACCAAUAGACUGCAGAUCAGACCCAAUUCAAGGGUAAUGCAGUCCAAAGUUCCUUGAACUCCCUCCUCCAAAGUGAAAAACAAAUCUAUAUAUUUCUGCAUGAUUCAAACAGAAAGGACUGUUGGACAUGUAACUCAGAAAGAAUGCAAAUACAUUGAAAGUACCAUAGACUUUAUAAAUUAGUUUCAUGUUGUUAAAUUUCAACACUAUAAACCUAAAAAUUCCCAGAACGAAAUGCGGGAAUCAUGCCUUAAACUCCAAUACUCAAAUAAGAGACAGAUAAAUUGCACAUUUUUUAAUAUAAUAUUUACAGACUAGAGAUAAAAAUAUAGAAAAAUAUAAACAUGGACAUCGACAAAAAGACUAAUUGACUGUGCAUGUGUGCUAGAGAGUGGCAAUUAAACAUUAUCCAAACACAAUCAUUUCUCAACAUUUGUAAAACAAAAAGAAGAUUAAGAUUAGCAGUAAACUAAAUAAAACCAAAGAAGUGAGAACCACAAGUAAAUGAGAAAGAAAACAAAAUAGAGAUCCUAGUAGCUUUCCCAUUGAACUUCGUAUAAGAGAAAUAACAACAUUUGAACUUUAAGCAAAUAAAAAUGUAAAAUAUUCAGAAUCAAAACAAUCUUUUAUCAAAAUUCAAGCCAAAAACAAUGAGCUUCACUCUAUACAAGAAGCAUGUUAAAGUCAUAGGCUUUCUCGUUUCUGGAAACCAAAUCCAGAAACGUCUCCCACCAAAAAUCAAGAAAAUAACUUCUGUUUUUGAAAAUCACAUUCAAAUCGUGAAAUAGGAGCAAGGUCCUUCAAAUUCAAGCAAAGUUGGUAGUAAAAGCUUAACUUUCAAAGGUCAAACAACACAGCAUUAAGUAUAAAACUAACCCAAUCUCCACCAAUUCAAAAACAAGAAACCAAACACGAACCCGAAGAUCCAAACACGAUUUCGAAAAAAAAAAAUAGAUAUUCCUGAAAAUCGGAUAAAAAACUAGCAUAUACUUAAUGAAAAGAGAAAUUGACGAAAAAUCACAAGAGAUCUGCAUGCAAAUAUAGGCACACUUUUGCUUGAUUAUUCGCUUAAAAAAGUAACAAUGGAAAACAAGAUGCAAGUGUCACGGGCCGCAGUUCAAAGCCCGUGACCAGCGCACCAAAUGCAUCCAAUAGAGAUCUAUUGCUCAGAUAGGGAUCAUUUGGCCCACAAGAACUGGCUCGAUUCAAGGAGCUAUUGGACAAGCCUGUCAGAUUGAAGCCUGGUUGGCCCGAAAACGAAGAGAUGGCAACUUAGGCUAAUAUGGUAACUAAUCUUAGAAGAUAGAGGGAAUCUUAUCUUGUAAAGAUUAGAUUAGAUUAGAUAAGGCUUAUCUUGUAAAUCCCUAAAAUUAAGGGAUAUGGGUUAAUCUCAUCCGUCGAUGUAAAUGUAUAUUGACCGUCGAUUUUGGGGGAGAUCAACUAUAAAUAGAGAGCCUCCCCCUCAUUUGUACUCACUCUUGUAAUUAUUUCAUUAUUCUUUGUGAAUAAGAGAAUUGAGAGCAUUUACUCAAACACUUUACGAGCGUCCUUUCUGUUGUUCUUUUGUUUAGCUUCUUUUGGCACAAUCGCUUCCGCUAUACAAAUUGGUGCCUUGGAGGAGUUCUAAAAGAAUCCUCACUUGAGUUAAGCCUGACUUGGGCGAGUUUGGAUGAACAAAUUGUCUAAGGCUGCACGAAUUACGAGACGAAAGGUCUAGCCCUGUGACAAGUGGUAUCAGAGCCAAGUUUUGAACCAAGUGACAUUCGAGUUGGUUUGAAGGCACCGUUGGGAUGUCAAGAGAAGAGUUCGAACAAAGGUGGGAGAAGAAGUAUUUGAGGGAGACAUUAUCGGUAGUAGAGAAACGUGUGGGUAAACUCGAGGGAUCCAUGGAGGAUGUAAAGGAGGCACUCGAUGGGGUCGAGGAUCACAUUGCAAACUGGAAGGAGCAGUCUAGAGACUAUGUAAAGAUGUCUCUUAGUUCCAUCAUGGAUAUGGUAAACGAGUUGUUUAAUUCACACAGGGAUAAGCUGUCGGAAAGGAAUGAUGCUCUCGAGGCCAAAAUGAUGGCUUUGAAAGAGGAAACAAUGGCCACGACGAGGGCUUUGAGCACAAGAAUAGAGGAGCUCGAGGGAGAGCUGGCCUUGUGUUGAGCAGCCGUGAGGAAAGGAGUGGCAAAUGUAGCACUCAGUAACGAGGAUGUCCCAAAGCUGAAAGAGUUUGUGGGGACAAGGUCUGCGUGCGAUGUGGAUAAUUUCUUAUGGAGGAUGGAAAACUACUUCCGUGCCAAAGGCGUCAUGGAUGAUACGGUUAAGGUAAACACUACUUCAAUGUUUCUUACUGCCAUUGCACUUUUAUGGUGGAGAGGUAGGACCACAAAUAAAAGGCAAGGUGAGAUUGGGACGUAGCAAGAGUUCCAAUGCGAAUUGAAGGGACAGUUUUACCCAGAGUUUACCGAGGAAGAAGCUCGGGCAAAGUUGCAAGGGAUAACGUAACAGGGCACAGUGGGGGAGUAUGUUCGAGAGUUCAAGGAACUCAUGCUCCAAGUUUUAAAGGUGACCGAAAGAGAGGCAUUGCUUGCUUUUCAAAAUGGAUUGAAGCCGUGGGUCAGACAGGAGGUGGAACAAAGAGGUGUCCAAAAGCUAUCGGAAGCCAUGACGGUAGUUGAGUCUGUGGUUAAGCUUAGUCUAGGGAAAGACAAGCUUGGAUCUUCCAAGUCCGAUGGAAGGGGUAUAUGUGAAAUGGAUCAAAAGGAAGAUAGUGUUGAUGGCAAUGGCAACGGCAACAAUGGUGGUAAUGGGAAACCAUGAGUUGGGAAGAAGAAACCCAAGAGGAAAAGGGACAAGCUAAAAUGCUUUCUCUGCGACGGUCCACACAUGCUGAAGAAAUGUCUGAAAAAUUUGAGCUCAAGGAGAAGCCGGUGGGUAAGGCCUUGGUACUUGGUUCGAGCGCAAGGGGUGUCGAAGCCAAGAAGGCCAAAAGUAAGAAGAAGCCAGUGGAGUGGUUCUUGUGUCAUGGUCCGCAUAGGUUACGAAAGUGUCCGAGGAAGUCUAUCAUCGAGGGGAAUGAUGGAGCAGACAAGGAGCCCAAGAAGCUUGGUUCGAGCAAGGGAAAAGCCGAAGCCAAAGGGGCAAAAGGGAGCAAAAAGAAGCGAGUAAAGUGCUUCUUGUGCCGUGGUCCGCAUGAGUUACGGAACUGUCCAAAGCAAGCCGGAGUCAUAAGAAAGGCAACGUCUGAGCUUGGUGAGUCAUCGGAGGGGCUUCCACCCAAGGAAGAGGUGAGUUUGUCAUCGAACUUAAAGGAAAUAGUUGCGAUGAAAACAGUGAAGCUGGGACCAAUGAGGCUCAAGUUGAGUGAAGCGUCGGAGUUGGCCGAGUCAUCGAUAAGGCUUCCACCUAUGGGAGAGGUGGGUGGUGCAUCAGACUUCAAGGGAAAAGAAGGGAUGCAUGUGGGACAGUUGACCAGAGUAAAUGCGACGAGUAGGACGGUUUGAGUUAAGAAGCGACGUAAGCCGAGGCAAAAAUCCCGAAGGAAGGGAAAGGCUAAGGCAUUGAGACAAGACCGAGGUGAAUCGAGUCAGUGCCAUUCAAAAGUCACAACGAGGACGGUGCAAGAAUGUGUGGGGGAGAAUGUCACGGGCCGCAGUUCAAAGCCCAUGACCAGCGCACCAAAUGCAUCCAAUGGAGGUUUGUUGCUCAGAUGUGGAUCAUUUGGCCCACAAGAACUGGCUCGAUUUAAGGAGCUAUUGGACAAGCCUGUCAGAUUGAAGCUUGGUUGGCCCGAUAACGGAGAGAUGGAAACUUAGGCUAAUAUGGUAACUAAUCUUAGAAGAUAGAGGGAAUCUUAUAUUGUAAAGAUUAGAUUAGAUUAGAUAAGGCUUAUCUUGUAAAUCCUAAAAUUAAAGGAUAUGGGUUAAUCUCAUCCGUCGAUGUAAAUGUAUCUUGACCGUCGGUUUUGGGGGAGCUCAACUAUAAAUAGAGAGCCUCCCCCUCAUUUGUACUCACUCCUGUAAUUGUUUCAUUAUUCUUUGUGAAUAAGAGAAUUGAGAUCAUUUACUCAAACACUUUGUGAGCGUCCUUUCUAAUGUUCUUUUGUUUAGCUUCUUUUGGCACAAUCGCUUCCGCUAUACAAAUUGGUACCUUGGAGGAGUUCUAAAAGAAUCCUCACUUGAGUUAAGGCUAACUUGGGUGAGUUUGAACGAACGGAUCGCCUAAGGCCUCACAGAUUGUGAGACGAAAGGUCUAGCCCCGUGACACAAGUGCUAGGUAAAACCAUCAUGUCUGCUUACUCACCACAAACAAAGGCCCUCUAGGACCUUCAUGAAUUUUUGUCUUAUAAGUGCUUCCAUUGUGAGCCUGAACAGCUUGAUAGCCCACAAGAUAAGGAUAUCGAUCUUUACCCUACAGAUUAACAAGGUUAAAUCCACUUAAAUGAAGCACCAUUAGUCUAUAACAAUUUACUUCAAUUUUCUGCUGUUAGUUCAAAUAUUUAUUUUUUUAAUUUGCCAAAACUUGCUAGGAUCGAAGAUUUGGAAUUCCUAAAUUUCAAUUACAAAUUUACACCGUACUUGCAGAAAAAUAUAUUACUAUUAGAGACACCAGCAAUCAACCAGAGUUCUUUAGUUUUCAAUCAAGUUAUUCGACAGGUAUCUAUAUUGAUUACACAAAAAAAAUCAUACACCGUGAGAAUGUCGAGUAAAUUACAAAUACAAAAGCAAACGAACCCUAAAGGAGCUCCAAUACUUCUUCUCCCAGGGGCCUUUGUAUAGAGAUCCAAUGGAAACGAUCUCUAGAUCCUCUAAUUUCGUUGUUUGUUCUCCUUUUUUUGUUUUCGCCAUUCAAAGAAAUGAGAAGAAAGCAAGAUUUCCAAACAACUAACAAUAAGAGAGUAGAGAGGAUUUUCAAGAUAGACGAAGACAUGGCAUUUUAAAAUAGGGGAACUAAAAUCUUAAAAUGCAUGAUUUCCCUUGAAAUUCUAAAUAAAAACUUUAUUUGAUUAGGAAAAAUGUGAAUUGAUUUUGGGAAAAAGAAGGGAAAAAAAAGAAAAGAUUUCAUUUGAAAUAUUGGGAUAAAAAAAUAUAAUUACAAAACGACGCCGUUUUGAAAAAAACAUAUUCGUGGCGUUUGGAAAAAAAAGUCACUAUUGCUCGACUUUUAGCGACAUUUGGACCAAAAACGCUACUAUUGUUCAACUUUUUUCUGCAUUUACAACAAAAAAGCCGCUAUUGCUUACCUUUUGCGGCGUUUUUUUUAUAAAUGCCGCUAACACUUGACUUUUUUACAAUUUUUAUAUUGAAUUAUUGUAUCUUUCAUAUAAAUUUUAAAUGAAUAAUUUUUAGUUUUUGUAUUUCAUUUUUAUUUUUGUAUUUCAUUUUUAUUUGUUAUAAUUUUGUCCUAUCCAAAAUAGAUAGUUACCUAUCCAUAUCAAUCUGUUACUUUUUUUUAUUUAUUUAUCAAUAUUUUUUUAAAUUUAAUAGUUAAAUAUAUUAAAUGGUUUAGAUUUAAUAUUUUUAAAUAUAAAAGCAUUAAUUGAUUGUAUAAAAUUUUAUCAUUUAACAAAUCUCAAGUAAACCUUAAAUCCUAAACCAUUUAAUAUAUAUAAAGUUUAUCUAUUAUCUCUUAAAUAAUUUAAACUAUAAUCAUAAUUUUAAUAUAUUAAAAUUAAAAUUAAAAUGAUCUCUUUUACAAUUAUAUAAGAAAUUAUUUAAUAUAUAAAUUAAAAAACACUAAUUAACCUAAACCCUAAACCCUAAACCCCUAUCCCCUAAACCUUGAAUUAUAAAACAUAAAACAUAAACCCUAAAUCCCUGAAUCCCUAACCCUUAACCCCUAACCCCUAACCCCUAAACCUUAAACCCCAACCCUUAAACCAUAAUCCCUAAACCCAUAAUCCAUAAUCCAUAAACCUUAAAAUAGUAACUCUUAAACCUUAAACCCUAAACCAUAAACCCUAAACUAUAAUGAUAAUUAAUUCAAUAUUUUAAAAUUAAUACUAUCUCUUUUACGAUUAUAUAAGAAAUUAUUUAAUAUAUAAAUUAAAAACAAUCAGUCAUGUACCCAAGAAACUUUAAAAUUAUUUUAAAUAAUAUAUUUUAAUUUUUUCAUUUUUAACAAAUAUUUUCUAUGUUUUUACUUUCAAAAUUUCUCUACGUGUCAUUAUUUUUUUCUGAAGAAUUUAAAUAUUCAAUUAAAAAUAAAUUUAUUUUAAUUAAUAUAAAUAAAGCGGUUAAAUAAUAAAUAGACAGAUAAAAUACUUUUUGCGGUGAUUUUCAUAAAGUGCCGCUAAAGCUCGAUCUACAGCGGCGUUUUACGAAAAAGAGUCUUACUGAAUUUUUUGGGGCAUUUUUCAAAAAGCGCCACUAAUUCUCGAUCUAUAGUGGCGUUUUUCAAGAAGCGCCGCUAAUGCCACUAAAGCUCAACAUAAAACACCAGCAUUGAGCUUAAUUUUUUUGCGGCGUUUUUCAAAAAGAGCCGCUAAUGGUAGACCUAUAGCGGCGUUUUUCAAAAAGCGCCACUAAAGCUCAACAUAAAACACCGGCGUUGUGCUUAAUUUUUUUACGGCAUUUUUCAAAAAGCGCCGCUAAUGGUCGACUUAUAGCAGUGGUUUUAAAAAAGACCCACUAAUGCUCGAUCUAUAGCGGCAUUUUUCAAAAAGCGCCGCUAAUGCUCGAUCUAUAGUAGCGUUUUUUAUCCAAACGCCGCUAAAAAUGCCACUAAAAACCUAUUUUGCUGUAGUGAUUUGUGGGGUAAGUGGUUGAACAUUUUAAUAUAGACUGACUUUUCUAUAAUUAGUCCUUGCUUUAAUUACUUUGGGUGGAUUCUUCCAACUAGUCCAAGCAUUAUUGUACAAUUACAAUUAAUCUUUUUAAAUGAGACAAACAUUUCAAAUUUGUCAUUACUAUUUGUGAGUGAUUUGGGGGUAAGAAGUUUAACUCUUCUGGAUGUCUUAUAGAAUUGUGAUUAUACUUUUUGAGUAUUGACUCAGUUUUCCACAAUUGUGGGUCUCUAUUUGAGCAAAACAAUUUCAACAUUUCUUCAUCUCGUUUAAUCCAAAUGCAUUUAUGCAUUUCUUAUAUCAUUGAAUUUGCUGCUUCAUAUUCAAUUUUUGGACAAGUAGAAUUUUCUAACCUAUUUUCCAUCAACUUCACUUGAAUUUUCAAUCACAAUCAAUUGCAUUCAAGAGCACCACAUCUUUUUGGAUGAAACAAAAAUUUCAAUUUUAAGAUAAACGGGUCUUUAGGGUUAUAAUUUCAAUUUUUAAAAGUUUAAAAUAAAUUUGUAUUUUUAUUAACAAAAUGUAUAUAAAAAAAAACUUGUUUAGACAAGCCAAGAGACCUUUGGGAUCAUACGGGUGAUUUUGAUGAUGUUAAUGGUUAUUUUGGUGGAGAGAGUGAAAAAGAAACAAAUGAUUCAUUAUAUAUAUUAUAAUUAUGAAAUUCAAGCCAUAUAUUGUAUGUUUCAUACAUAAAAAAAAUUGGAGCAAUUUAAUCCCUAUCAAUUUUGAAAGUGAGUAACUAAGGACAAUUAAUUAUGGUGUUAAAUUCUUCCAUCAAUUGUACAUAAUUUUGAUUGGUAUAGUAAUAAAUUUAGCCUUCAAUAUUUAUAUAUUUUUUCAUUUUGGCCUUAAUUUUUUUUAAAAAAUUCAAGAAAUUCAACCUCAACAUUUACAUAUUUACACAAACAUUGCGGGAAAAUUUUGUUAAAUUAAGACCAAAUUGCAAGUGUAAAUUUUGAGGGCUAAAUUUAUUAUUAUACCAACCAAAAUCAUGUACAUUUUAUGGAAAAUUAACAUCUUGAUUAAUUAUUCUUAGUUGUUCACUUUCAAAAUUAAUAGGGACUAAAUUACUUUGAUUUUUUUAGGGUGACCAAUUUCCUCAAAGUGGAAAUUGAGAGAGACUAUUGAGAUCUUUUGCAUAUUUCUUUUAUAAAUAUAUUUUUUAAAUAUAAAAUAUAUUUGUUCACACACAUCGUGAGUAUGAUCUCAAUAGUCCACAUAAUCCAUUAAAAAAACUUAAAAAAUAUAUUUUAUUUUUUAACACCUAAGUGAUUCUCCAGCUAACGACCACCCAAGACACACCCCGACUUUAUAACACCCCAAUCUUAUUUAAUUAUUAGUUAUUUAUUAAUGCAGAAGUAAAUUAUGAGCCAAUUUUAAUCUUUUCCUCGGUAAUUUAACCUAAGGCCAAUUUCAUCAUUUUACCACCUAUUGUAAAACUAACCCGAUUUUAGAUAUAACAACAUGUUUGGUUUGGUGUAAUAGAUUAGCCAUUACACCCCUAUUUCGUGGGCCCCACUAAUCCCCACUUAUUCUUGUGUUUGGUUUGAUGUAUUGCCUAUUACAGGCCUAUUACAACACGAAUGUAUUCCUCAUUUUCUCUGCUUCAACAAUGAUUAGCCAUUCCGUUCCAAAAGUAAGGAUUAGCUAAUCGUCUCUGUUUUACCCUCCUCAGCCAAAAUCUACUGCUCCACCCCACCCUCUCCCUCCCAACAUCAACAGCAGUUUUCUUCGAACCAAAUCUCCACCGUCUCAGAUCGCCUGUGAGUAAUCUCAACAGCAGUUGCCAGUGAAAAUUGCCCUUUCUUCAAAAACCCAGCCCUAAACCCUUCUUCUCUUUCAAUACUCCAUUCGAACAGGUUGCGGUGUCUCCCUCCUCUGAGGUAUGGCUCUGUUUCUUUAACUUUAGCAUUGAGCGACUCUUUUCAAUUCCAAAAUUAGUCUACUCUGCUAAGGGUUCUUGCUUUUCAAACCAUUUUUUCACCAUUUUUCUUGUAAUUCUUUUUCUUGUUAGAGUUCAGAUUUUAGAUUUUUUUUAAAAAAAAACGAUUAGAUUGUGAGGUUCAGUUAAUUAUUAGGGUUUUCUGUUUUGGGUUUCCCUGUUGCGUGGUAAUUUUGAAGUGCAUAUAAAAUGGAUGCUUUUGAGGAUCUUAAGCAAUUCGGCGAUACUGAUAAAGGUUGAUAUUCGAUUCAUUUUGCUUUAAUUUACUUGGUUUAUGCAUUUUGGGGAUAAAAUUAGCUUUGUUUUCUUCUCUUUUGGUUGGCUUUAAGCUGAGAGUAAAAUUUGAAACCUUUGUGGUGGAGGAGUUACCGUUCUUCUGAGAUCAAAUGUAUAACAGGUUAGAAGGAAAUGAAAUUAGAUCCUUAAAUAUUGUGUUUUCAAUGUUAAGGGCAGGCUUUUGUUGCUAAAACAAUUGUGGUAACACUGUUUGAUUCAGUUAGAAGUCAAAUGUCGUUUCCAUGUGUGAACAAUUUCUGGUUUUUAAGUAGCGACUUUGUUUCAUGUUGGCCUGGACAUUUUCCAAAUUAGUAAUUAUAAGUUUGAAUUUGGCUACUAAAUCACGCCAAUUAAUGAUUUCAGUGUGCUGGUGUUUCAGACUUUCAGUUGAAUUGACUUUGGUUUCGAAUAUUUUUAGUGAUGGAAAUAAGCACGAUUUAUUUAAAUUAUGAUUGAAUUGGAGAAACUGCUUUUUGUACAUUUUGAGAAAUAUCAGGCCCUUGGAUACACAAAGGGUGUUAACUUGCGCCUAUCUCAAUUACCCCAUUCCUGCCCAUUGAAUUGGAGAAAGUUCUUUUUUUUAAUGAUUCUGCGUUGCUACUGAUUUUUAGUGAAAUGGUAUUUUUCUUAUGAUGUGUUUUCUUCUUUAUGAAGAGCUCAUUUCAGUAAAGUUAACCUUUCUAUUAUGCAGAAGGUGCAGUAUUUGAUGCAUCACAAUAUGCAUUUUUUGGAAACAAUGUUCUCGAGGAAGUUGAAUUGGGGGGGCUAGAUGAUGAGGAUGAGGAUUUACCUGCAGCUGGACUUGAUGAAGAGGAGUUUUUGUUUGAUCAAGAGGAGGUUAAUAUUCUUGUUUCUUUCAGUUUUAUUUUUCCUGUUUCGAUUGUUCUUGCAAGUUUCUGCAGCAUAGCACAACCAGUGACUAUUCGAUCGAAAAAUAAAUGUAUCCCUUCCAGGCGUCAUGCUAAAAAAUAGCCUUUUGGAUUAGUGUUGGAUUUUUUCUCCAUGUUCUUUAACAGAUAGAUUCCACUGCAUUCAAUUAGUGGUUGGCAUGCGAGUUUUAUUUGUGGAAUAAAGCUCUGUGGGAGUUCAUAUUAUAUAUUGUUCUAUUUGUCUGUGCAAAACAUUGUGAACCUUGUUCUCUGUAUUUAUAAGUUGACAAUGUAGCCAUCUUGGUUGGCUGCUUUCCGAAGUCAAUUUAUUUGAUUCGUUCUCUUUGCUCUUCACAAUGAGAGGUAGCUCUUUUGUACUUUUUUAAUAAGAUCAUAUUAUACAUGCUCUUUUGCAGUGGUCUAGUGGUUUAGUAUCUUGUUAAUAAAACCAUAUUGUAUAUUUGAAUAGUUUGGAGAUUGUGUUAACUGUAUUUGGUGCAUCUUGAAGUAAUGUUUGUUGUAUCUUAUAUGCUUCCUGAAUCAAAUAUGGAGAGAAGGUAGUAUAUGGAGUUUAUAUUUUCAAGUAUUUUUCACACAAUUGAUUUAUCUGUUCCCUUCAUUGAGGGGAAAACAUGGAAUGAAUUGACUUACACCUCACUUCUUCCUCAAACAUCUUUUGUACCACUUAUUUUCAUAAAAUGAUAAGAAUCUUUUUAGAUUACAACUUCCAGAGGUCUAUGUCACCUUCUUGACAAUCAGGUUUUUAGGAAUAUUUUUACCCAUCAUGCAGAAGUUUUAGACAAAAUCUUGUUCGUGGUUGCUGCUAGAUGCAUGAUACUGCCUCAUUUCCUUUGUGGUGGUUCUUCGCUCUCCCCCUUCUUAGUAUUUUUGGUUGUUGAGUCUUGGAGGCAGUUGUAUUCAGUAAUGGCUGGCUUGCUUUGAUGCAUUGCUUCUGUAUAUCUUUGUAGAAAACGAAUCUGUAUCUAUUAUUAACACAAAUUUGAUUAGUUCAUGCCAAUGGAUUUGUAAAGUUAAAUUAGUUAUUGGCGUUAGAAAUUUACUCUUAUGCCUGGAAGGAGAUCUGGCUUACAGAUCAACUACUGGAGUUAAUUGUGGAAAUUUGUUUGAUUUGGUUUCUUAUAAAAUUGUUACCCUGUUCUAUUUAUGUUGGAGUAGCUGAAAUCUGAGGUUGCAUUUGUCAUUAACAAAUAGAAAUCCAAAAAGAGAGGAAAGUGAUAUCAUCCCCUCCACUUUUUCCUUGGAAUUGCGUACUUCAAACUUUUUUAAUUGUAUAAAUUCAUAUAAGAAAAUUUAUUAUGAUGUUGUAAAACUAUAAAACAUAUGGAUUAUGAUGUAGAAUUUCAUUUUCAUCUAACCUUUUCUUAAUAUAAGUUAAUUAUGUUUAUGCAGAAUAUAAUCUCAAGUUAUAAUUUGAUUUUAGUAAAUUCAUAUAAGAACAUUUUAUUAUUAAAUUAUAUUUAAUAUUAAUUAUUUUAAAUUGUAUAAAUUCAUAUAAGAAAAUUUAUUAUCAAGAAUUUUAUGAAAUUAUAUAUCAUUAUUAAAUUAUAUUUAAUAUUAAUUAUUUUAAAUUAUAUAAAUUCAUAUAAGAAAAUUUAUUAUCACGAAUUUUAUGAAAUUAUAUAUUAUUAUUAAUUAUAUUUAAUAAUAAUUAUUUUAAAUUAUACAAAUUCAUAUAAGAAAAUUUAUUAGUUAUAAUUAUUUUAAAUUUUAUUAAAUCAUAUAUUUUAAUUAAAAUAUUUUUAAUAUUAAUUACUUCAAAUUAUAUUUUAUAGUAUCAUAUAUUAUGAUUUUAGUAAAUUCAUAUAAGAAUUUUGAUUAUUAAGAAUUUUAUUAAAUUAUAUAUUUUAAUUAAAAUAUAUUUAAUAAUAAUAAUGUUAAAUUAUCUUUUAUCGUAUCAUAUAUUAUGAUUUGAGUAAAUUCAUAUAAGAAUAUUAAUUUUUAAGAAUUUUACUAAAUUAUAUAUUUUAAUUAUAAUAUAUUUAAUAAUAAUUAUGUUAAAUUAUAUUUUAUAGUAUCAUAUAUUAUGAUUUGAGUAAAUUCAUAUAAGAUAUUGAUUAUUAAGAAUUUUAUUAAAUUAUAUAUUUUAAUUUAAUAUAUUUAAUAAUUAUUAUGUUAAAUUAUCUUUUAUAGUAUCAUAUAUUAUGAUUUGAGCAAAUUCAUAUAAGAAUAUUAAUUAUUAAUAAUUUUAUUAAAUUAUAUAUUUUAAUUAUAAUAUAUUUAAUAAUAAUUAUGUUUAAAUAUGAUUAAAUUAUUUAUUAUUGAUAUUAUUAAUCUUAUUAAAAUUUAAAUAACAAUAACAAUAAUCAUUUACCCAAACAAAUUUAUGCUAAUGGUAUUCUAGUCAUUUUAGUUUUUUUCCAUUAUGCUAUUACACCUCUAUUCCAUUCAACCAAACACAAGAAUACUAUUACGCCUCUAUUCCAUUACGCCUCUAUUCCAUUCAACCAAACAAUUGAUUUGCUAUUACGCCUCUAUUCCAUUACACCUCUAUUCCAUUACGCCUCUAUUCCAAUACAGCGAACCAAACGUGCUGUAAGUGUUUACCAACCUUCUUUUAGUUAAAUUAUGCAAGCCUAAAAUUUUCAGCUUUAUUUGAGUACGUUUUCUAUGUCUAAUUCAAGUUUUAUUAUUAAGGACUAAAUUGUAACUUAAACAAAUUAGAAUACCAAUUUAAAGAGACAAAAUUCAAAACCCCAAAACCCACACGGGCAUGUGGGUAAGUGGCACGGGCCAGUGGAGACUGGAGCUAUCACAUAAGGCGAGUGAGAUUGAAACAUAUGAAAUAAAUUAAUCCACUUAAUUUUCCAACAACCAUGCUAUACUACCAAACCAAAUAACGAGUGAAGCUUUGAAUAGGGGCGAAUCUAAAAAAAAAAUUAGAAGAAUUAGAAUUAAAUUAUAAAAUUUUGAGAAGUUAUCAUGUAUUAAUUUAUUAUUUUUUUAAAGGGUCCUAAUAGAAUUUUUUUCCCAUUCUGGUUGGGCCAAUACCUUUGACUGCCUCUUUAAAUUUGCUUCAACCCUAAACCCAAUAUUCGAUUUGGAUUAACAACAAUAUAUAGGUUUGUAUUUGUGGGAGUUUGACGAAUAAAAAUUUCUAUUUAAAAGGUUUAAAUUAUAAAUUUUUGAAAGUUUAAAAUAAAUUUGUAUUUUUUAUUAACAAAAUAUAAAAGAAAAAAAACAUGUUUAGACAAGACAAGAAACCUUGGGAUCAUACGGGUGAUUUUGAUGAUGUUAAUGGUUAUUUUGGUGGAGAGGGUAAACACGAAACAAAUGAUUCAUUAUAUAUAAUAUAAUUAUGAAAUUCAAGCCAUAUAUUGUACUUUUGGUUUUUCUGCAAUAUGAUACAUGUAUUUGGUAAAAAGUUAUAUAUUUUGAUACUUAAAAGUAACAUUGUUAAUUUUUUUAGUGCUUAAUCUGAAUUUUAGAGUUUAUUUAAUGAACAUUAAUUGUUAAUAUUGUUAUGUUUAUUUUUUUAUGAUUUUGUUAAUAAAAUAAAUUUUAUGUUUAUCUUGUUAUCUUUUUUAUUUUAGAAUUGAUUACAUGAAAGUUAAUUGCUAAUAUUAUUAGUUAACUAUUAGUUUUCUUCAAAUCAAAUUAAAACCCGAAAGAUCCCACUUUUUUUUUAUAUUAGUUUUAGUUAUCCAUUAAAUUUGUUUCUUUGUAAUAAAAUUAAAUUAUAGAAAUAACAUUAAAAUUUUAAAUAAAAUUAAUUCACAAUAAUUAUACAGAAUUUAAUUUUCUUUCAAAUACUGCAGUUAAUAAGGAAAGUGAAUAUAGUAAAAAGAAAUAUUGUUUAAUUAGUUAAUUUAAAAAUCAAUAGCGUCUAAAAACUGUCAGAAUGGAAUAUUAGAUUUUAUAAGAUUUCAUUAUUCUAAAAAAUAAAAUAUGACAAUGCUUAAAAAUUUUAUCAAAAAAGUUUUAAAUUUUAUAUAAAAUUUUAAAAAAUAAAAAAACAGUAUUAAAAAUUUUUAUAAGCAAAUUAAAUAUUAAUUAGUAAAUUAUUUUUGUAAUAUUUAUAUGUAUUUUCAUUUUUAUAAAUACUAUUAAAACUUUUUUUAAAAAAAUUGAAUGCUAUGUAAAAACAUUAUUAAAAAUAAAAUAUUAUAUGAAAGUUAAAAUGAUGUAAAAACAUAUUUUCAGUGUUGGCGUUGCUCGUUCGUAAAUGGGUUAGUUUCCGUUUUGAUGUGUUUUUACGUGGAUAGUAAAAGAAAUGUGUUAAUUUUUGGAUUAUGGAGUUGAUCGUUUUUAAUCAAUUCUCCAGUAAGUUGACUCGUUUGUUGUUGUUAUGUGCUAGGAUAAGAGAUUAAUUCUGAUUUGGGCCUGUGUGGUUGUGUAGAUUUUCCAUGUGAAAUCGUUUGGUAUUUUUAGGAUAAAUCAUUCUUUAAAUCGUAUUGCUACCAUCGCGAAUGUGAUGUUUUAAUUUAUGCAUUUAGGAUCUGGUAGUCUUAUAGGUGUUUUCGCAUAAAAAAUUGAACCAUGUGUGUAACGAAAGCUAAAAAAUUGCACUGUUGACGCCACACGGCCAUGUGACAAGUCGUGUGCUGGAUCAUGUGUAACACACGAUUUGAGCUAGUUGAGCCAUGUGGAAAACAAAGGUGUGUGUGAAGGCGUGUGCCACACCAUGUGGGCCACACAGGCUGGCCAUUUAGGCCGUAUGGGACCAAAAUUCUAAUUUUUUUCCUAGGGUUAUACACAGUGUGUAUACUUGUCUUUGAAUUGAAAAAUUCUAAACAACUCUAAAUAAAUGGAAAGCAGCAAAUUACCUGACGAGGCAAGCUAGGUCAAUUACGACCAUUGUGUUAUUCUUGUCUCUGAAUUGAAAAUUUUAGAAGAAACUAAAGAGAAAGUGUUAGAAAAUAAUUGAAAACAGAUAAAACUUAUGUCUCAUUGAUUGGAUAAACUACGAUCACCCAUAAUAGACCUUGUACUUGACUUUUUGUUUAGGGAGAUUGACUCUUUUAGGAGAAGUCUUUUGAGUGUUGUUUGCUAGGCAAUCGGUGCUGCCCUCAACAACUAAUGGUAGUGUCCCCAUGUUGGGAUUUUAUCCCCAGCCUCUGCGGAAUAAUCAUUGAGGAUAUGUGCGUAGGGAUUCAAACUACCAAUCAAUGCAUGUGUAGCCUUUACCUUGCAACCAUCUCCAUGAACCCAUAGGGUUCUUAGCGGGAUCAAGAGACGAAACCCUAAUGUGGGAACAAUACCAUUUGUUGAAGGCUUUGUUAAUAGGGUCACACCUAGGGGAGUUGGCAGGGGUCCCAACCCCCCUUAAAAUGAAAAAUUUUCCAUUUAGGCCCUUUAAAAUUUUUAAAAUUUUAAAUUAAUAAAAGUAAAAUUGUACUUUGGCCCCCCAAAAAGUGAUAAAACUUCGAUUUAGUCCUCUAAAAAUUAUAAAAUAUAGGCUAUUAAAAUGGUGAAAUUGCAUUUUUACUAUCAUAAAAAUUAUAAUUUAAUUUCACCCCCUAAAAAGAUUUUCUGGCUUCGCCCCAAAUAAAAUCUUUGCCAAAAGAUUAAAAUAAAAUUAUACCGUAAAUGAAAAAAUAAACUAAGAAAAUCCAAUCUAACAAAGAAAAUAACUUGAUGUCCAAAAGCUACCAUGAACCGUAAUUCAUGGGAAGUCUUGUUGCUCAUUUUAUUGGUUUCCAUUUUGAUUUUGCAAAAUAAGUUUGAAUUUUGAAGAGAGCCUACUACGUGAGAGCAAAAGAAAAAAAUUCUAUAAAGAUUUUGAAUUUUGAAUUUUGAAUUUUGAAUUUUGAAUUUUGAAUUUUGAAGCAGAUUUUCAUUAAGAUUGAAGAUUCCUAAUUGAUUUCUUAGGAGAUUAUCAUGAGUUCCUUAUUUCUUUCAGUUAUAUUGCCCUUUGGAUUUUUUAUUUUUAAUCAUGAACUACUUUUCUAAAUACGUAAGAGAGAUGAACCCUAUGAUAGAUUGUGACACCCCAAAGCUGACCGGGAUAGACCGGCCUGAAUUCAAAGCAUUACAUUAGCCACCUAAGGACCACUCAAGACACACCCCGACCUUAUAACACCUCAAUCUUAUCUAAUUACUAGUUAUUUAUUAAUGCCGAAGUAAAUUAUGAGCCAAUUUUAAAGUUUUCCUAGGUAAUUUAACCUAAGGGCAUUUACAUCAUUUUAUGACCUAUGGUAAAACUAACCUAGAAAUACCGAAAACAUUCCAAAAUAAUAUAAAAAAAAAGCUAAGAAAAACCUAGAAAUACAAAAAAAAAUUCAUGUUUUUACAAAUUGGGAAAUACCUAAAUUUGUUUUUAUCAAUUAAGAAAUUAAAAAAAUUGUUGAGAAAUAUCUUUUUAGUGAUUGUUAGCUUUGACAAGUUCUCUCCACCACUUCUCUUACGCUCCUUCCAGGAUCUUGCUUUUUGUGUGUUGAAAACUCAAAUGAACAAAAUAAAGUGAAUUUACGAGUUUUGUUUUCUUUUAAAAAUAUUUUUAAUAUUUUUGUGGAUACCAAGAGAUACCAAAAAUUAUUUCACUAAGAAGUUUUAAUUCACUCGAAAAGUUAGUGUUUUAUUUCAAGGGGUCAUAAUUAAUCAUUAGAUUUCUCAAUUUUAAAUUUUGAAUUUUUGACAAUUGUGUAAUUAAUAAGUACCAAUUUUGAGUGGUGUAGGGCUAGUACAAUCUCCCUUACACAUAACCGACUCUUGAUCUAAUAAAUAUUUAUCCUUAUACUUUGAUCUAAAUAUUUUGAUGUAAUCAAUGUAAAAAACCUUUUAAACAAAAUAAGGUUGAAAUAAUCUAUUUGUCUUUAUACUUUGAUAAAAUUUGGGAUUUAGUCCUCAUACCUAAUGUUGACACCAUUUUUUUGUGAAAACGGGGUUGACUUGGAUUUUGUAAACGAAAACGAAAACGGGGGUCGCCACCAAUUCUUUUUGAUAAGGUGUGAUCGGGCCACCUUGAAAAGUGGUUGUUUUUAAUAAACAAUUUAAUUUUAUGAAAACAACGAUUUUGGUCCACGAAAUUCAGAAAAACAGGUUCGGGAGUCGGUUACGUACGAGGAAGGAUUAGCACCCUCAUAACGCCCAAAAUUGGUACCUAGUUGAUUAAUUAAUGUCUUAGUGUAGAAGAUUGAAAACUCUAAAGAGAUUUAAAACACGAUCCUUUACUGAAAUGAUAAAAAUUUUCGGCAAAAAGGGCAUAUUUCACAUUAAUCGAGAAAGAGAAUUAUAUCCAAUAAGUUAGAACACAAUGUCUUGAAUUCCGAUGCGCGAAUGAAUACCAAAAAUUUACUUAUUUAAAAGAUAUUUAACUAUCUCGGAUUUAAAAAAGGGAUCAUGCCCAGUAAGUUAGGACACGAUCUUUUCUUAAUUCCCGAGAUCGUUUAAAACUUGAGAAAAAAGGGAUCAUGCCCAGUAAGUUAGGACAUGAUCUCUUCUUAAUUCCCGAGAUCGUUUUAAACUUGAGUUUGAAAAGAUUCGUGUAUUUAAAUUUAUUGUGAAAAUUGAAACCCCGUAAGUUAGGGUACGACCUUCUCGAAUCUAAACAUGAGAUUUUGCUUAUUCAAAAAAUCAUAAUUUAUGCAUUGAAUAAAAUUAAUCUAACACGAAAUAGUAGAAAUGCAACACGGUGUCAAUAUGUGUAACAAGACAAAAAUGAAUAUGAUAAUGUAAGCAUAAAUAGUACGAACGACAUCGUAAAUGAGAUAAAUAAUAGGAGAGACAAAUCCAUCAUAUCACAACAAAUAAAUAAAUGCAAUAUUAAGACAUUCUUUUCAAAUGAUAAUGAACAUAUACGCAAAUAAACAAAUUAACAUCGAGUGAAACAAAAAUGCAAUAACGAAAUUAAUAAAACUAUAAAAAGUAUAAAAAUAUGUGUGUAUGUACGUGUAGGUAUGCAUUAUAAAAAUAUAUGUGCAUAUAUAUAUAUAUAUAUUUGAAAUUACAAAAUAUAAAAGAUAUAUAUAGGUAUGUAUAUGUAUGAGUUAUAAAAUAUAUGUAUGUAUAUGUGUACAUAACUAAAUUUGAAAUAAAUAGAUAUAGAUAAACAUAAUAAUAAUAUAGUAAGACAGAUAUAUUUAAUAUUUAAAUAAGUGAACAUAAUAAAUGGGAGUAUAAUAAAUAAUAAUAAUAAUGCAAAGCUAGUAAUAUGAUAUAAUGAUAUAAUAUUAAUGACUAAGUAAAUAUAAGAAGAAAAUAUUAAUAGAUAAUGUAACAACCCGGUUUUGACCCUAAUCGGAAUAGUGGUUUCGGGACCACAAAUCCGAACUAGAAAAAUAUUAUUAAUAUUAUUUAGUGUGUUUAUAUUGUGUGCAUUUGAAUGUGUGAAAUUUUCGUGUUUUAAUUUCAUCGUUUAAGUGUCCGAUUUAAUAAAAGGGUUUAAUCGCGUAAAAUGAAAAAUUAGGGGUUAAUUAUAAAAGCACCUAAUUGUUGUUGGCUUUAUAAUUUAGAGGUUUUACUAUGAAAUUAGUCCACUAUAUAAGUUAGUGGGUGGCAAAAGACUAAUGUAACCUUAUUAUAUAUGUUUUAUAUAUAUAUUAGUAAAGGUUAAAAUAGUAAAUUAAUUAUAAAGUUAAUAUAUGUUUAAUAUAACAAAUUAAAUGGCUAUGUUCUUCAUCUUUUGGCCGAAUGGGUGAGAAAAUAAAAGGGGUUUAAAGCUUUUUGUAUUUCGGCAGAUUCAAGCUUUGAUUUAGGUAUGUUUUUGCUUCGGUUUUUGAUGAUUUUUACGUUUUUGAGAUCGUUGCUUUGAAUACUUCAAAACCCAUGUCUUAAUUUUGUGAAUUGAUGAAUAUUUUGAAUUAUGUCAUUGAUGAAUAUUUGUGUUUUGGGAUGUUUGAUGAUGAAUAAUGGAAGAUAUGUCUUAGAUUAACAUGUUUUGUAUUGGUAUUUUUGAUGAAUUUGAGUAUUUAGGGCUAAAUUGUGAAAAUAAAUUUUUGAGGGAUUAAAAUGUGAAAUAAAUGCAAUGUGUGGACUUGUAUGAGAACCAUGAAUAUUCGGCCCUUGUGUGGUAUGGGCAAAUUUUGUGUAUUUUGUGUUUUGUGCAAAAAGGACUAAAUUGCAAAAAGUGCAAAAUGUUAGGGGCAAAAUGGUAAUUUUCACAUUUAUGUAUUGAUGGACUCAAAUGAAUGUUUUGAUGAAUAAGAAGGUUAAAUUUGACUAUGUUUAGAUCAAGGAACGAAGAAAACGAAUUUGGAUCGGGGGAAGUCGAAAGUAAUCGAAUAGUCGAUCGUGUUUGCUGAUAUCCGAGGUAAGUCUAUUAGCAACUAAAAGUUAUUAAGUUAAUAUUUAUACAUGCAUACUAAUUUUAUCUUAUGAUUGAGCUAUAAUUUAAAGUAUAAAAGUUGAAUAAACUUUGGACUAUAGAUAUUGUAUAUAACAUGUUCGAAUAUACAAGUAUGAUCUUGUAUAAAUUAUUGGAUUAAUCAAAGAUAUGUAUAAGAUAUAUGUAUAUACAUAUAAGGUUUGAAUGAUUAUAUGAGUAUGUAUAUAUAUGUAUAAACUCUUGGAUUUGAUUUGUGAUAUGUAAUUUAUAAUUGUAUAUAUAUAUAUAUAAAGUCGAAUAAGCAUGCAAUUAUACAUGUAUGUGUUGUGUAUUGAAUUUAGAUAUGUCAUUAUAUAAGUAUAUGAGGAUUGAUUGUGAAUUUAUAUAUGUAUAAGUUUUUGUUUUGAAAUUAAGUAUGAAAUUAUACAUUCAUAUGGUAGAUUCGAAUAUGUAUAAAUGCACAUGUAUAAUUUCUUGAAUUGAAAUUAGGUAUGGAAUUAUAUAUGUAUGUGAAAGUUUCGAUUUGUAUGUAUAUUCACGUAAAAUUUUUUGAAUGGAAGUGAAGAUAUGAAAUUAUUAGUUUGGAUCAUUAUAAAGUGAUUGAAUGUAAUACAGACGUUACGUCUAGCAGGCUUGAUGCCGGUGAAGUAAUUCAGACUUUAAGUCUAGCAGGCUUAAUGCCGGUGAUACAUUUCAGACUAUAUGUCCAGCAGGCUAAGUGCCGGUGUACUGAAUCAGGCUUUAAGCCUAGCAGGCAAAAUGCUAGUGAAUCUUUUUAAAUUAUGUGAGAAUAUGCAAUUGAUAUAUCUAUGAUUUUGAUUAUACGAAAUAGAUGAAUACAUGAACAUUCGGUUUUUUUUUAUAUGCCUGGUGAGCUUACACCUACAUUCGGGUUUUAUAUUGGUUAAACAUAAUUGUAUGGAUUCGGUAUAUACAAUUAAUAAAGGCAUAUGUACAUUAGGUAUAUGCGAUUGCUGAAAUUAUAAAUGCAUAUGGUGAUAUGUGAUUGUUAAAUAUACACGUUGAGCCUAUGUGUUCGAUAAUUAAUUAUGUAUGCAAUUGAGAUAUGUAUAUAUAUACAUGUACUCAUUUAUAGGUAUAUAUAUUCGAAUGUAUAUACUAGCUAUGUAUUCAGGUAUAAAUCCAUAAUGAGUAUAUAUAUAUACAAACGAAUAUAAAAUGUGAUUGAUACAUAUGUGUUAGAUUCGAAUUGAUUUAAAGUUUACCAUGAGUAUACAUACACAUUCGGUUAAGAUAUGUGUAUAAUAUAUAUAUAUGCUCGAUUGUAUACAUUGGGUUGUAAUGUUGUUUUGUAUAAUAUAUAUUCAAUUGAUUUCAUUCGACAGGUAUACAUAUCUGACUAUAAAUAAAAUGGUCUGAGUACAAUAAUGUAUGAAUGUUAGUUGGUCGUGUUAGUUGAAAUUUCAGUAAAAUAGAUUAAAAGGUUAUAUUAAUUAUGUGUUUAUAUAUACAUUUAGUUAUGCUGUAGACUUACUAAGCUAUAAAAGCUUACUUCAUUUGUUUUCGUUCAUUUGUUUUUAUAGAUUUUGGAGACGCGUUACGAGCUCGGGGAUCAUCAGCAUAGUCCAUCACACUAUCGACUUCUUUUGGUAUUUUGUUAAAUAUUUGAACUCGAUCUUAUGGCAUGUAUAGGCUUGAUAAUGUUUUGGUUAGUUUUGGAUCCUAAUAUGUAAAUAGUCAUGCGAAAAGGGUUUAAUUUCCAUGCUUGAAUUUGACUACAUAUGAUCAUGAUUUGGGCUUGCAUUUGAAUGAGAUAUUCAAGUUACAUGUAUGUUAUAAAUUUUGGAUUAUGUUAGGUAUUAAAGUCAUGUUUAUGUGUGCUUUGUUUCGUAAUGCCUCGUAACCCUAAUUCGGCGACGGAGACGGGUUAGGGGUGUUACAGAUAAUAGCUAGGUUAAUAAAAAAAACAAAAUGGACUAAUUCAUGAUAAAAAUUAAAUUUAAAGGUUCAAUCUAUAAUAAAAUAAAUAAAGUGGGUCCAAAAUGAAAAGGCACGAAAGGGCGGAGGGCCAAAUGAGCAAUAAACCCAAAUUCCAGGCCACGCCCAGGGGUCCAACGAAUUGAGGAACGAAUUGAAAACCGCAACAAACCUACGGUCCAAAUUACAAAACGAGGGAAAAAAGAAAAGGAACUAAAUCAAAACAAAUCGAUAAUGCGGAGGGGCCAAAGGAGCAAAUAACCCAACACUUAACAAUGCACGGAUCCUCUGGUCGGGUCGAGUCGACGAGUGGAUCUGGGGGGCAAAACGACGCCGUUUUGGUACCUGGGAGGCCUGCCCAAAACGACGUCGUUUUAGGGCCUAUAUAAGUAAAAAAACAUAAACAAAAAAAUCAUUUUAAAUCCAUUUCAGAAAAAAAAAACUUUCCCUUUUUUAUUUUCUCUCUAGCCCCACUCCCUUCGAUCCAGACUCCGACCGAUGGCCGUCGCACCGCCCACCGACCACCGGCGACGGUGCCGCCCACUGACCACCGAUGACGGCGCCGUCGUGCACAGUUGUCGGAAAGUUCAAAACCCCUUUUUCUCUUCUCUUUUCGAGUAAAGUACCUAUUUGGGUUUAAGACAUCCCAAAAGUCCUUCAAAAUAAAAAAAGAAAGAGAGAAAAAUCUAGAGACCUUUCGGUUUCUCAUCACCGCCGAUGGAGUUUUUGGCGAACCCGUUGGUUUGACCACCCCAAGACCGGAGGUACCUCCGUCCGCGGCAAUAAAGGUAAUAGAUUUCUCUUUUUAUUUACUAUUAUAUUUAUUUUCGAAAUAAAUAAAUAAAUAAAAAUAUAAAAGAGGCACCUUUGUUUUUUCCAAAUCUGUUUCAAACUUUUUUAUUUUCGAAAAAAUCCCAAAAAUCCCCAUGAUUACAUUGAAUUUGUGGCUUUUAUAGCCCAAUGCAUAUUUUCUUUUUUCUUUUUGUUUAUCACUGCUUCUCUGCUAUUUGUGCUGUUGUUGCGUGUUUUUUUCAUGUUUUGCAGGUCUUGACGGAGCAGGUGGGCAGGUGGCAGAGCAAGUGGCGGUGGGUGGUGUCAGAGGUGGCAGAGGCAGAAGGUGACGCCAGAAGAUAGGAACCCCUAGGUGUGGCGCACCUAGGGUUUGACAUUGUUGUUUUUUAUUUGAUUUUUUGGGCUAGGUUUAGACAGUUGGGCCUGUGCAUUUUGCUUCGGGUUUGGGUUUAAUCUCGUUGGGCCGGGUGUAAUUGUGUUAGUUAGGCCGGGGCAUAAAUUGGUUAUUACACCUAAAAGGUUAAAAAUUAAGUCUUCUUAUUUUUUUUUAAAUCUUAGUCCUACCGUUAAUUUUUUUUUGUCAAAAUUUGUUAACUUGACAUAUUAAUUAGGUUUUCCUUAUAUGUCGUGGUAUAUGACCAACACAAAAUUAAACAAGUUGACAAGUUCUGACAAAAAAUAUCAAAGAUGAUAAUAAUUUAAUUAAAAUUUUUAAAUUGAAAAAGUAAGGGAUUAAAUUUAUAACUUUUGAAGUGUAAAGAAUGAACUUAUUGAAAUACAAGAACUAACAACACAUUUUAAAAUAUUACUAGUAAAUUAUAUAUCUACAACGUAAGCUCUUAUAUUAUAUUCUUGUAUCUAUUUUGUAUCUUUCAUUAUAAUAUGAUUUAUUAAUUUUAAUAUUUUUAUAGAAUAAUAUGCUUUAAACUAUUUUUUGUAUAAUUUAUAAAAAUUAUAAUAAACUUGCAAAAUGAUUUAAUGAUAUUUAAUUAUUAAUGGAAAAAAAAAUGAUAACAUAUAUAUUCUGUAUAUAUUAAGAUUUUGAGUCAUUAAUUAUAUAUCUACACAUUAUAAUAAAUUCAUCUUUCAAAAUGUUCCUUAUAAUUAAAGCAUAAAUUAUAUUUAUAAUAUUAUAAAUAUAUUAUAUCAUAAAUAUUCUUUCAAAUAUUUUUUAAUGUUUAAUAAUAAGUUAAUUUAUAAAAUAUUCUUUCAAUAAAUUAACGUGAUGCGAUCGUUAGGUGCUUGGAUUUGGUGAUGGGGGAUGAAGAGAAAAGGGAUGGAAGUGAAGAAAAAUGUUGAGAAAUGGAAAGGGUUAGCAAGGGAAGCUGCCAUGAAAGUUGGUUCUAUGGAUAUGAACCUUCAAGCUUUUGUGGAUGAUGUUACUCAAGGUUGUUGGAAGUAAAUUUUAAAAAAAUUGAGGUAAAAUUAAAAAAAUGUUAGAGCUAAAUUUGUCAUUAUGACUAAAAUGUAAAACCAAAAUUUUUUGAAAAUAAAAAAAAAUGGAAAAUAACAAAUUCUGUCACUCAUGUUUGCUUAAAAUAUAGUUUUGGUCACCAAUCUUUUGAAGUAAAUAUAUGGUCACCAAUAUUAUCCAUUUGUUACUCUGCAAUAACUCACCUCUAUGAAAUUUGGCAGGCCGUGUCAAUUUUGUAGAUUUGCGCUCUGAACUGUGAAAAAAAUGCAAAUUUUAGGUUAUUCAAGCAUUUUAAUACGUAUAUAUGAAAAAAAGAAGAAGAUAGGAGAGAACCUUCCUAGAAUAUUUAAGAAAAUAGCUCCAAAGACACUAUUGAAGUCAACUUUGAAGCAAAUUUUCAUCAAGAUUGAAGAUUCCCAGUUGAUUUCUAAAGAGAUUAUCAUGAGUUUCUUUAUUUCUUUCGGUUAUACUGCCCUUUGGAUGUUUUUAUUUUUAAGCAUGAACUAAUUUUCUAAAUACCUAAGAGAGAUGAAUCCUAUGGUAGAUUGUGGCACCCCAAACCCAAUCGGGAUAGACCGGCCCGAAUUCGAAGCAUUACACUAGCCACCUAAGUGACUCUCCAGCUAACGACCACCCAAGACACACCCUGACCUUAUAACACCUCAAUCUUGUUUAAUUAUUAGUUAUUUAUUAUUGCAUAAAUAAAUUAUGAGCCAAUUUUAAACUUUUCCUAUGUAAUUUAACCUAAGGGCAAUUUUGUCAUUUUACCACCUAUUGUAAAACUAACUCGAUUUUAGAAGUUUUUACCAACCUUAUUUUAGUCAAAUUAUACAAGCCUAAAUUUUUUAGCUUAAUUUGAGUUUGUUUACUAUGUCUAAUUCAAGUUUUAUUAUUAAGGACUAAAUUGUAACUUAAACAAAUUAGAAUAUCAAUUUAAAGAGAAAAAAUUCAAAACCCAAAAACCCACACGGGCAUGUGGGUAAGUGACACGGGCGUGUGGAGACUGGAGCUAUCACACACGGGUGAGUGGGAUUGAAAAAUAUGAAAUAAAUUAAUCCACUUAAUUUUCCAACAACCAUGCUAUACUACCAAACCAAAUAACGCUUGAAGCUUUGAAUAGGGGUGAAUCUUAAAAAAAUUAAAAGAAUUAGAAUUAAAUUAUAAAAUUUGAGAAGUUAUCAUGUAUUAAUUUAUAAUUUUCUAAAGGGUCUUAAUAGAAUUUUUUUUUUCCCAUUUUGGUUGGGCCAAUACCCCUACCUCUUUAAAUUUGCUUCAAUCCUAAACCCAAUAUUCGAUUUGUUGUGGAAGUUUGAUGCAUAAAAUUUCUUUUUUUAGAGGUUUAAAUUAUAUAUUAUUGAAAGUUUAAAAUAAAUUUGUAUUUUUUAUUAACAAAAUAUAAAACAAAAAAACAUUUUUAGACAAACCAAGGAACCUUUGGGAUCAUACGGAUGAUUUGGUGAUGUUAAUGGUUAUUUUGGUGGAGACAAGCCAAGAAAAGAAACAAAUGAUUCAUUAUAUACAAUAUAAUUAUCAAAAUUCAAGCCAUAUAUUGUCUGUUUCAUCCAUAAAAAUUUCAUGGGAGGUCCAAAGGUAAUUAAAUGACUUGUAGGCUUGCUGAAUUUCUUUGAAAGGCCCAAAGGCAAUUUAACACUCACAAAAUAAUCUCUAAAUACUGUAAAGACAAAUCAAAUCCACAGCAGCAUUAGAGUUGAUUAAGCUAAGCAUUGGCAAAUAUUACUUUGAUUUUGCAUGCAAUAUCGGCAAAACCCCCCUCUUACAUUAGAAAAAACAACAUAAUCCAUGUAACAUUGAUAGCCCAAUACAAAUUUCAUCAAGAAAAAAGUCUCUUUGUUUUGUAGAACAUGAUAGUAAAGAUGUGGAGUUUCAUUCUUCUUAUUGGCCUCCUUUAGUUUUCCUUGAUCAACAACCACUAGCCAAAAACACAAUUAGAUUAGAUUAUGAAUGAUACUUUCAACUAUGACAAUAUUAAAUACAAAACACUCCAAAUAACUCUAAAUAAAUGGAAAGCAGCAAAUUACCUGACGAGGCAAGCUAGCUUAAUUAAGACCAUUGUAUUAUACUUGUCUCUGAAUUGAAAAAUUUAGAAGAAAAUAGAGAAAAAGACUUAGAAAAUACUUGAAAACAGAUAAAACUUAUAUGUCAUUUAAAAUAAAAAAAAAUUAUUUAAGCUGUUUAAAAUUUUUAAGAUUUUUAAAAUUUUAAAAUGAUAAAGGUAAAUUGUACUUUGGCACCCCUAGAAAUGAUAAAACUUUGAUUUAAUCCUUUAAAAAUUAUAAAAAUAUAGGCUAUUAAAAUGAUGAAAUUAUAUUUUUACUAUAGUAAAAAUUACAAUUUAAUUUCACCCCCUAAAAAGAUUUUCUGGCUUCGCCCCUAAUAAAAUAUUUGGCAAAAGAUUAAAAUAAAAUUAUACCGUAAUUGAAAAAAGAAACUAAAAAAAUCCAAUCUAACAAAGAAAAUAACUUGAUGUCCAAAAGCUACCAUAAAUCGUAAUUCAUGGGAAGGCUUGUUGCUCAUUUUAUUGGUUUCCAUUUUGAUUUUGCAAAAGAAGUUUGAAUUUUGACGAAUACCGACAUAUUAUAUAUAUGACUAAAAUUCCAGAAUAGGUUAAAAAUGUUGAAUUAAAGAUGAAAUUAAGUGUGAAUUAAUAACCACAAGUGUACUCAUUACUCACCAUCUCUGUUAAAAAUGUUGGAUGUUGUUUAGCAACCUUUGUUUGAUUUUCUUCAGCUCAACCACAACAUCUUUCAUAUCUUUUCUUUCUUCUGGUAACUCAGCUGAACAAUUCAAAGCCAACUCCAUGAUAGAUGAAAUACAAUUUGCUUUAACAACAAUGUACUCAUCCUCUCUUCUUAGUAAAUCAACAUCUGCAAUUUCUAUCGCUCCUUUAGGCAAUGAACUUUCCAUCCAAUGCCUUAUAGUCUCUUCUUCAACAAAAACAUUAUCAGAUGGCUUUUUCUUUGUGAAAGUUUCUAUAAGGACGAUCCCAUAACUAUAGACGUCAGAUUUUAUAGAAACAAUUCCUGCUGAUCCAAAUUCUGCAUUUCAAGUAUAAUUAGAACAUCAUUCAUCCUCAAUUAUUUCUAAAAUGCUUAUUCUAAUAUCUAUCCAUAUACACAUGAAACAAAAAUAUAAAAUUCAAAUUAGGAAAAUAAUCAUACAAAAAUAAAAAAGAAUUCACCUGGUGCCAUAUACCCGAUAGUUGCAAGAGUCAUGGUUUGCUUCAUUACUUCACCUUCUCCCAACAAUUUGGCAACGCCAAAAUCUCCAACAUGUGCAACCAUGUCUUCAUCUAGUAAAAUAUUGCUUGGCUUUAUGUCACAAUGAAUUAUAGGUGUUGGAUGUCCAUUGUGGAGGUGUUCUAUAGCUAACGCAACAUCUAUCAUUAUGUCGACCCUUUGUAUGAUAUCAAGGAAACAAUUUUCAGAAUGUAACCAUUUCUCAAGGUUUCCAUUAGACAUGUAAUCAAGCACCAAGGCUUUGAAGUCAACACUUGAGCAGCAAGUAAUGACCUUCACAAUAUUACGAUGAACUAUAUUAAGCAUAGCAUCACAUUCAAUGUCAAAACUCCUAAAUGCUCCCUCUGUUUGCAAAUUGAAAACUUUUAUUGCAACUUCCAUUCCAUCUGAAAGCCUCCCUUUAUAUACAUAUCCAAAACUCCCUGAACCAAGCAUAUUGCUUUCCUCAAAUCCAUUAGUUGCUCGUGAAAGUUCAGCAUGUGAAAUUCUUCUCGGUGUUUUCAAAGACAACAAAUCAUCUUUAAUUGAUAGAGUUGUACUCCUUCUUUGGCAUCUUCUAUACAUAAUAGUUAAGACUAUUAGUACUACGACAAUGCCAAUUGUUGGUAAACCAUACCUAAAAGCAUGCAAUAUAAUCAUUUGGGAGUUUUUGUGGAUGUCGUUUUUGCAAGGUGGGACUUGCAAUCUAGGUGGACCACAAAGUGCAUAAUUCUUCAUGAAUGAUGUGCUAGAAAAGUUUGAAAAACAUCCUUUGCUGGGAAUUUCCCCUUCAAGUCUAUUGAAAGACACAUUAAAAUACCUUAGAUAUAUAAGUUUUUCCAAAGAUUUGGGAAUGACUCCAGAGAGAUUGUUAUUGCAUAAAUCCAAGAAUUCCAAACUAAUCAAUCCAGCAAAUGAUUCAGGGAUAUGACCAUGUAGUAUAUUAUUUGAUAAAUCUAAUGAAACCAAAGUUAUAAGACCCCCAAAUGUGGAUAAGAUAUCGCCCGUGAGAAGAUUCUUUGAUAAAUUUAGUUUCAGUAGACUCCUCAAAUUUCCAACAUCAAUAGCAUGUGAACUGUGAAGAUGGUUUGAUGAUAAAUCUAUUUCUAAGAUAUCUUUAAGAUUCCACAAAGUUGAGGGUAUUGUAGAACUCAAUCUGUUGGAAGCAAAGUAAAGAUAUCCCAAAGAAGUAAUAUUACCCAAACAAGAGGGUAUGGAUCCAUGCAGCUUAUUCAACCCUAAAAAAAAGUUGUAUAAUCUCUCCAAAUCACAAAGGCUUUCUGAGAUGGGCCCUCCUAAUUUAUUAGAGGAAAGACCUAGACUUUGGAGAUUCCGCAGUCCUCCUAUUGAUGUUGGAAUGAAUCCACUUAAUUUAUUAAAGCCAAGUUCUAAAACCACCAUGUUGCUUAAGUUACCUAUUUCCAUAGGAAUAAUGCCUUGAAGCUCACAAUUAGAGGCAUAAAAGUAUUGAAGGGAUUUUGAAAGGUUCCCAAUAUAAGUAGGAAGAACGUCACUCAAUGGAUUUCCUGAAACAUCUAUUGCGGUCAAAUUCCUACAAUUCGUCAAAGAAGAAAGAAAGCUCCACUCAUGAUCAGUAGCAGAUCCUGUGAUCAAAUUAUUGUCAUUGAUUUUGAGCACUUCAAGGUGUUUUAAGUUGCCAAGCAUUUUAGGGAUUGGGCCAGAGAAUAAGUUAUGUGACAAUUCUAGUUGCUUAAGCAUGGAAGCAUUGGAGAUAGAGUUGGGAAUGUUUCCGCUAAGUUUAUUUCUCCACAAUAAAAGAAUCUCAAGCUUUGGAGCAUUGGUGAUGGGUGGUAAAUUACCUGUAAAAUUGCAUCUUUUAGUAUACAUAUUCAUUGAAUACCAAAUUCACAAAAUAUAUAAGACAUUAAAAUAAAAACUGUAAAACUUUAAAUCAAUUAAGAAUAAAAUUUUGGCAUGGAAAAAUGUGAUGAAAUCAAUUAGAAAGUUGAGACAUAAUAAGAAGUUUUGAGUAGUAAUUAGUAAAACAUAUAAUACAUUAAUAAUUUUUAAAAUAUUGUAAAACUUGAAAUAAAAUAAAAAUAAAAGUUUGGCAUGAGAAUGUGGCAUCUAAUCAAUCUUAAAAAUGAGACUCACAUUGAAUAAUAAUUAGUUAUGAUUUGGGAAACAAAAAUGUUAAAGCCAUUGUUUUUAAUGUAAGCUGGUAUGACUUUUAUCUAUUGGGUUAAUUAUUUAUUUUUAUUAAAUUAUAGUGUAAAAUUUAAAUAUUAUUAUUUGCUUAAAUUUUUUGUAUUUUUCGUAUAUUUAAAAUUUAAUCUUUAUAUUUUUAUUUUCUGUGAUUUAGUCCCUCUACUUUUUGAAUUGAAAAUUUUAGGUUUAUUUAUUAACACCGUUAAAAAGUUUUUGUGUUAGUAUGGCAUUUUGAAAACUAAAAUAAACUUGAUAUCUAUGUUUUUAAUUAUUCCAAAUAUUGUUUUACUAUUUCAAGAUAAAUUAUUUGUGUCUAGACCAAUAUCUUAAGAACUAUUGUUGCAUAUUUAAUUAUUCUAAAGAAUUGUCGAUUGAAUCUUAGCUUGAUUGGCAUGUGCAUUGUUGCCAAUGUAGGAGAAUGUGGGUUCAAGCAUGCAUGCUGAAAUGCAUUAUCCUCCUAUUUAUGAAUUGGUAAAGUACUAAAUUUUGAUAUAUUUUAAAAUAUUAAAAAUUUAUUAAAAUAUUUUUUUAUAAAAAUUGAUUGUACCACAAUAUACAAUUUUAAUAUCAAAUUUUUAAUUUUUUUAAAAAAUAUUAGCGAAUAUGUACUUUAUUUCAAGUUACACAAUUUUUACUAGUUUUUAAAUUUUUUUAAUUUUUAUCGUCUUUUAUAAUUUCUAAUAAUUUUUUAUAAUUUUUUACAAUAUUUAACAAUUUCUAAAAUUUUUUAAUAAUUUUAUUAUUUAUUACAAAUUUAAAAAUUAACAAAUUUUUAAUCUUUAAAACAAUUAUAUAUUUAUAAUGUAGUUAUUUUUUUUAUAAUUUUAUUUGAAAUUUUAAAGAUUUUUUUGGUUUGUUUUCUAGAUUAUGAUGCCAUCAUAAUGUCAUCAUAUGCCACAUGGCAAUUUAUGAUUAGUUGGAUAUCUCAAUCUAUUUUUUUAACGUCCAAUGGACUAAGCCAAGAACACCUGACAAUGUUAGAGACUACACUACGAAUGUUUGAUAAUAUUACGUAUUAAAGUGGACAAAAAAAAUUAAGGACCAAAGUUAUAAAAAAAAAAAAAAAACAGCAAUCGGCUGCAGGGAAUAAACUGUGCAUUAAGCCAUUAAAAAUAUAUCUAUAAUAUAUAUAAAUGCAUGGAUUUUGAGAAACAUUUGAACUGAUAAUUACAUAGUCUUUGAUGUUUACUAUAUUAUUGAAUUUGUUAUUUUAAAUAUUUUUUUAUUACUUUUAAGAUUUAUCAUAUGUAUGGAUAAGAAUUUUGGUUUUACUAAAAUAUUUGGUUAAAUAAAUUCAUUUAAUAAGAAAAUUUAGCAUCCUUAUAAAUAACAAUUUUGAUUCUAUUAAAAAUUAUUUUCAAAAAUAUAUAAUAAAAAUUUAAAAUUUAUAUUGAAUUACUUUAUACUUAAAUUAUUAUUAGAAACUUUAUCAUACACAUACGUGUAUGAGAACCAUGUAUUUAGAACAUAAAUUUGUUUUUUAAAGUAACUUAUGAUAAAUAAUGAAAUGUAUAAUUUGAAACUAUUUAAUAAUAACACAUGUCAUAUCUACCAUAUUAAAAUAAAAAUAGAUUAAAUUGUAAGUAAAACAUAAUUUAAACAUAUGAAUACAUCAAAUUAAGAAUACUAAAUGAAUACAGUUAUUUAUGAUGAUGUUGUUGCCAAUUCUUAAGUUGGUGCCGAGUUAAUUUGUGACAUCAUAAAUUUAGGUGAUAAAUUUAAGGUUUUAUGUAUUGAUGUGGAUUCAAAUAUCACCAUAAUUUUUUUAAAUAAAAAACUAAAAUACCCUCAAAUAAUAUAACUUAUAUUAAAUACGAAAGGGUAUUUUUGUAAUUUCUCUAACCGAGUUGGUGCCCGGUUGACUCAUGACACCAACUCAAUCAAAAGCUUCAAUAAUAAUAUAGAUAUUCACGGUAAAAAAAAUUACUUUAGUUCCAAAUAAUUAUAUAACAAGUAAAUUUAUAAUUGACGAAUAAAUUUAUAAAUAAUAUAUUUAUAUGAUCUAAUAUAUUAUAUUUAUAUUAAUUAUAUAUCAUCUACAAACUUUGAAGAUUAAUUUAUUAAGUAUCAAGAAAAGAAAAAAUGAAAUUUAAUUAACACUAAAUCAAUUUUUAGAUUUUGUACAGAUGAUUUAAUGAUGAUAAAAAAAAUAUUAGCACUAUUUUCGAAUUAACAAAAAAUUAGUGAUAUAUUUUAAUUAUAUUUAUUAUUUAUUUUUUAAUAAUUUUUUUAAUUAUAUGAAGUAAAAUUAUAUUGUAUACUAAAAAUGGUACAUAUACUUUAAUUAUACUUGAAAAUUUAUUAUAUAAAUUAAUAUAUUUUAAUUAUAUUUAACCAUUUGAAUAACAAAAUAAAAAAAAACUAAUUAGAAUAAUUUAUUUUUUAAAGUCUAAUGGAAAUUAAAAAAUUAAAAAUAAAGCAGUUCAUAUAAAACUUAUUGUUUAUUAUCAGAUUAAAAUGAUAAAAGUAUAUGACCAAAAUAAAAGAAACAAAUUCAACUCAAUGUUUUUGGAGUUUGGAAAAAAUUAAAGUUAAAAACAUACCUUCUAAUUUGUUGUUAAAUAGAUCUAUUUCUUCGAGCGUAGUCGAAUUAAAAAUACUUGAUGGAAUCUGACCUGCACACAUAGUCGAAAAUUGAAGUAAAAAACAUACCUUCUAAACUGUUCAACUAAAAAUACUUUAAGCAUAUUUUUUAGUAAACUGUGCAACAGGUGAUAUGAGAAUCUAUGUAUAUAAAUGUAUAUGUAUAUAUAUCGUUGUUUCAUUUUGUAAAAUAAAUAUAUUUUCCACAUUGGUUUCUUUUCUUCUACAGACAAAGGAUUUCUAAUGAUUCUUUUUUAUUUUUACUUAUAAAAUAGGUUAGUUUCUGCAAUAAUAAAAACAAUUUCUAAUGAUUAUUGUUGUUACCAGAUAACUAAUUUUCAUUCAAGUAAAGCCCUUCAAGCUUGGGAAAAUGUUGACACAUAUCAUUAGGCAAACUACCUGAUAGGCUAUUGUUGGAGAGAUCAAUGGUCUUCAGAGAAGAAAUGUUCGAGAUCGAAGUUGGAAUCUGACCUGUAAGGCCUUUAAUUUCUUUAAUAUUAAGCAUUUCCAAACUAAGAAGAUUACCAAUUUCCUUAGGAAUUUGACCUGCAGACAGUCAAAAAAUCAAUGUUUUUCAGCAUAUGUUUUUCAUCAAAUGAAAUAAAAAGUUCUUCCUUUUGUUAUCUAUUACAAAUCAAACUCUUUUAUAAAAAAAAAACUUUAAAUUCAAGAAAUCAAGGAAAUUGAUUACCUUCUAGAUUAUUAAACCCUAAAUAUAACUUCUGGAGUCGUGUUAGAUUUCCAAUACUUCUUGGAAUGAUACCCAUAAAUUGAUUAUAGGACAACGACAAAAUUUGAAGGUUGUUGCAUUUGCCCAUGCCAAAUGGAAUGUUACCAGAUAAUUCAUUCAAACUCAAGUAAAGCCCUUCAAGCUUGGGAAGAUGUUGACACAUAUCAUUAGGCAAACUACCUAAUAGGCUAUUGCUGGAGAGAUCAAUAAUCUUCAGAGAAGAAAUCUUGAAGAUGGAAGAUGGAACCUGACCAGAUAAUUGAUUGAAUCCCAAGUUCAAGAUCUCUAGAUUAGACAUGUUAACAAGUGUUUCAGGGAUUGUGCCUGUAAAGUUAUUGUUUUUCAUUUUCAGCCUUCGAACUCUUUGUAAGUUCCCAAGCCAUGAUGGAAUUUCCCCAUUCAGACGGCUGUAGCUUAAUUGAAGGAUCCUCAAACGAUGCAAUUGGCCCAAUUCUUUAGGGAGAUGGCCAUAGAAAUGGUUGCUACUCAAGUCGAGAGAGAGUAGAAAUGAAAGAUUUCCAAGGUGUGGAGGGAUAGUACCCCUAAGAUUCAUGCUUGUAAGAUUCAAAGCUAUAACUCUUUUAAGAAGGAUGCCACAAGAAACACCAAUCCAAUUGCAAACAGAGGUUGAGACUGUCCAAUUGUUUGGCAAGACAUUUUGAGGACCGACGAUGCGAUCCUUAAACUCGAGAAGUGCAAACUGAUCGGAGUUUAGAUUCCUGACUGUCAUAGCCAAGCAAAGUACGAAACAUGGUAUGAAUAAAGCUAAAAGAAGAUGAAAGCAAGUGUUGUAGUUCAUGAUUGCAAGACGGAAUAAGCCAAGAAAAUAAAAAAAAGUAGGAAAAGGGAAGUUGAGUUGAUAAAAUAGUUUGGAUGAUGAAGAAAAGCCCUGAGAGCAUGCUUUAAUAUGUUUCAAUCAUCGCACACUUGAUAAACUUGAUAAAUUUAAGACUACCCUAAAAAUUAAAAAGGAAAGCAAAGUUUUGAAGAAAUUUCAAAAUAAAUGUCAAGUCUUCUUCUUUUAAAAAUACGUACAAAGAAGCGAAUUUUCAAAAUUUCUACUAAAUUUUCUUCACAUUACUCCACAUAAUCCAUUAAAAAAACUUCAAAAAAAAAUAUUUUAUUAAUUACUAUAUAUUCUUUUAUUUUCAGAAUAAUAAUUGUUUAAAAUAUGCUAUUAGUCCCUGUAAUUUUAAAGUUAAAAAAAAUCCAAUCCUCCUAUUUUUCUAAUUUAAAAAUUCUAGUCCAAUCAUUUUUAAUUCCAUUAAAAAAUUUCACCUUAAUAGGUUUUUUGAUUAUCAAUCGUAUGCAACAUUAUAUGAAGGCAGUCUAAUCAGCAUAUAUCCAAGUUUAUAGAUUUUAAUAGAAAAUACUUACAAUCCUAAUGGUAGGACUAAGUUUUUUAAACUAGAAAAGUAAGAAGACUUAAUUUUUAACUUUUUAAGUACAAGGAUUAAAUUUUAAAUGUUGUCAAAGUACAAGGAUUAAAUUUUAAAUGUUGUCAAAGUACAAGCACUAACAAAAUAUUUUGAUCUAAUAAAUGUAAAUGAACUUUUUAAACAAAAUAAGGUUGAAAUAAUCUAUUUGUCGUUGUAUUUUGAUAAAAUUUGAGAUUUAGUCUUUAUACCUAAAAGGUUAAAAAUUAAGUCUUCUUGUUUUUAUUUAAAAAUCUUAGUCCUAUCGUUAAAUUUUUUUGUCAAAAUUUGUCAACUUUACAUAUUAAUUAGGUUUCCCUUGUAGGUCGUGGUAUAUGACUAACACAAAAUAAGCAAUUAAGUUGACAAAUUUUGACAAAAAAUAUCAAAGAUGAUAAUAAUUGGAUUAAAAUUUUUAAAUUGAAUUUAUAACCUUUAAUGUAUAAGGAAUGGAUAUCAAAUUUUUAUAGGAAUAAAGGGACUAACAACAUAUUUUAACCACAAAAUAAUAUGGGUGAUUAGAAUGAAUCUAAAAUUUUAUAGAAAUAAAAGAGACUAACAACAUAUUGAUAACUUUGAAAUCUCCUUCGAUAAUCCUUUUUCUACGUAGAAAAAGAAAAUUAAUUAGCAUCUAAAGUGUCAAUUAAUGAAACCUUCAAGAGAAAAUGUGAAAUUGAUUUACCAAACAAUAAUAUUCUAACUUAUAAUAUAUUUAAUUACAUUUAGUAAUUUGUCAAUCAAAACUUAAUUAACAUCCAUCAAUACUUUAUAUAUAAAAAACGCAAGCAUAAAUUACAGUUUAAAGUAAUUGGGAUCUCGAGUGCAACAAAUUCCUCCUUUUAUUAUUAAAUGUUUUAUUUUAGUUACUCUAAUCAAAACUUAAUUAACAUCCAUCAAUACUUCAUACAUAAAAAACGCAAGCAUAAAUGACCAUUUAACUCAUAUUUAACUUUGCAAGUAAACUUCACUAAUUAUAGAGUUAUAGUGUAAACUUUGAAAAUAUAAGUAAAUUUACCAUUUAACUCAGACUUAACUUUGCAAGUAAACUUAAAAUUUUAUUUAAUUUUGUCACUAAAUUUGAUUUGUUCAAUAUAGAUUUUGGUGACUUAAAACAAAAUUAAUAAAAAAUUAUUCUUUCGGAUAUCUUUUUAAUGUUUAAUAAUAAGUUAAUUUAUAAAAUAUACUUUCAUUGGGCACAGGCCUCCAAGCCGGUGAACCACUGAUCAAAUUAAUUUGGAGAUAUCUUUUUUCUGAAUAAAGUGAAUUUACCAGUUUUGUUUUCUUUUAAAAAUAUUUUUAAUAUUUUUGUGGAUAUCAAGAGAUACCAAAAAUUAUUUCUCUAAAAAAUUUUAUUUGACUCGAAAAGUUAGUGUUUUAUUUCAAGGGGUCAUAAUUAAUCAUUAGAUUUCUCAAUUUUAAAUUUUGAAUUUUUUCACAAUUGCGUAAUUAAUAAGUUCCAAUUUUGAGUGUUGUGGGGCUAGUAAAAUCUUCCUUACACAUAACCGACUCUUGAACCUACUCUUUUCUUUAGAAUUCAAUGCAGACCUCAAAUUUAUCUUUUGAAAAGAAUUUUAAAAUCUCUGUAUAAAAGGUGUUUCUUUUUGUUACCGAUCACAUUUAACAAAAAUUUAAAAAUUAUUAAAAAAUAAUUUCUUUUUGAAAUUUAAAAUGAUCUAAAAACAUAUUUUUAAUUGCUUUGGACCAUCUAUUGCUGAUUUCCUUAUUAUAUUAAGUGUUUGCAAUCACUCUUAAUAUAUUGUGCUUGAGUUGUGACAAAGCCGAUCGUCAACGUGCCAUAAUGAUCAAUUGACGCUGAAACUGAAGUUUUUGUUAUAUUGAUAGAGCUUGUCCUUCAACGCAUACAACGUGUUUGUUAUUUUUCUCCCUUCAAAUUGUAUGAUCUUAUUCAUUAAAUGAAUUAAUGAAUAUCCCUUUUAAAAAGAUAUAUUUUUAAAAAUUAAAUACUUCAUAAAAUAUUUAAAACCAUUUAAAAAUUUGUUAGCCUUAAAACAAUCAACAAAAUAUAUUUUUCUCUAAAAAAUCAAUAAAAAUAUGUUUGAAAUUUUAUAUGAAAUUUAAAAUUUUUUAACAAUAAUAUAUUUUAAAAUUAUAGUAACGCUACAAAAUAUAUAUAUUUACUAAUUAUAUACACCUUUUUUAUAUUUUUUCCUAACAUAUCAUUAUUUUCAACAUUAUCGUAAUCCUGUUUUUAUAAUUCCCUUGUCAUACAUCCUUUUUCUACUUAGAAUUUCAAAAGAAAAUGUGAAUUAAUGUAGACGUGAGAAGACUUCAAGGUAAGUCACCCAAUGAAAGUGACCUAAACCGACUUAUGGAAGAAUCAAACAAUAAUUUUGUGUCUUGUAAUAUAUUUCUUGUAAUAUAUUUAAUUACAUUUAUUAGUUUAUCAAUCAAAACUUAAUUAGAAUCCAUCAAUAUUUCACACAUCAAAAACCCAAACAUAAAAUUCACUUCUAAAUUAUUUGGGAUAUAUUUGUAUUAUAGGAAAUGGAUUAAAUUAGUCUUUUUAUUAUAAAAUGUAUUAUUUUAAUCUUUGUAUUAGGUAUGAAUGAUAUCUCCUAGAUUGAACCCAAAGCUAUUCUUGAAAGACUGAAAUUAGGAUUUAGAUGUGUUGAGAUGGAAAGUGACAACACAAUGUUGAUUGAAACUAUUUGUAAUGGGUUGGCUACAAUAAGUAGUGCUGUCGAAAUAAGACAGAUUCACGAUUAGUCUUCCAAAAAUUGGGAAGUCAAAUUUCGACAUAUUUAGCGGAAUGCCAAUAAAAUUGUUGAUUGCUUAGCUAAGGCAAAUGGAGGGGUAAUUGAGCAGCUGGUUAUCUUGGAAGAUCCUCCGCAUUAUGUGAGAUGCUAGCUUGAAGAAGAUAUUAACAGUCACUGGUCUGAUGAUAAUUUUCAUUUGGACUGAUGAGCGCUUAAUUUUCUAAGCUUAUGGUCAACAAAAAAAAAUUAAAUACGUCUAAAUUGUAAUAGAGUUAACAUUUAGUGUUUAAAAAAUAUCUUAAAAUUUAUUUUUUCCAAUUGCAGUUCAAUUCCACAAAUAUCGACGAUGAACCCGAACAUAAAAAUUACAAAAAAAAACACAUCUAUUAUCAAACCAACAAUCCAUGUCUAAACUUAAAUUAACAAAAUUCACCACGCAACCUGGUACACUAUUUUAUAUAUAUAUAUAUACUAGAUUUAUUCUAGAUGCACAUGUUUUAUUAUAUUUAAAAAUUAAAAUAUAUGGUUGACUAAGUUUUAGUUGAAUUAGUAUUUGUUAAAAAUAUAAUGUUGGUAAUGACAAUAUAUAGCAAAGAAAAUAGAAAUAGAAAAAUAAAGAACACACAUAUUUUACGUGGAAACCCUUUCGGGAAAAAACCACAGGCAAAAGAGAAGAAAAUUCACUAUGUCGAAUUCAAAUCAAUUACAAGAGGAGUAGACUAUGCCUAUUUAUAGGCUUGGAAACCUUAUUCUAAUAGGAGUGAAACUCUUUAUUCUAAUAAUAUCAAAUAGAUGGAGUUUAAUAAGGUUUAAAAAACCUUAUUCUAAAAUAAAAUAAAAGAAGUAUAAUUCUAUAGGGAUUUUACUUUUAUUUUAUUUUACCAUAGUAUUUAAUUUAAAUAAGGAUUUGGGUCACUUAAUUCUAACAAUCUCAACCUUGACACGAAUUCUUAAUGAACAAGUUCUUCAUCGCGAACUCUCAACGAACAAGUUUCUCCACCUCUUCCAUAAAACCCCUUAAGGGUUUAUUUUCAACAAUGAACACCAACCAAGUCUAAGCAGUGCUCAAACUUGGUUAUAGGAAGUGACUUAGUCAUCAUAUCUACAGGAUUUUCAUGAGUACUAAUUUUGCUCACAACAAUAUCACCACGAGCAAUAAUAUCACGAACAAAAUGAUACCGAACAUCAAUGUGUUUUGUUCUCUCAUGAAACAUUUGAUCUUUUGUAAGGAAGAUGGCACUUUGACUGUCACAAAAUACUGUAUUAAUUUGAAGGUCUUCAUUGAGUUCACUAAAGAGUCCGUUCAACCAAAUAGCUUCUUUGCAAGCCUCAGUAAUCGCCAUGUGCUCAGCUUCAGUGGUAGACAAAGCGACUGUAGUUUGCAAAGUGGCUUUCCAACUGAUUGCACAACCUCCGAUUGUAAAGACAGAACCUGUGAGAGAUCUUCUUCUAUCCAGGUCUCCAGCAAAAUCAGCAUCAACAUACCCAAUGACUCCAUCUCUAGUUCUUCCAAACUGUAAGCAAACAUCGGUAGUACCUCGUAAGUAUCUUAAAACCCACUGAACUACUUUCCAAUGUCUUUUAUCGAGAUUCGCCAUGUAUCUACUAACUGCACUAACUACAUAUGAUAAAUCUAGAUGUGAACAAACCAUGGCAUACAUGAGAGAUCCUCCUGCACUAGAGUAUGGAACAUGUGACAUGUACUCAAUCUCAUCAUUUGAUUGUGGAGACAAAGCUGAUGAUAGUCUGAAAUGGGCUACUAAAAGAGUACUAACAGGCUUAGCAUUCUGCAUAUUGAAUCUAGAAAGAACUUUCUCAAUGUACCCUUUCUGACUUAGGUACAAUUUACUUGCUUUUCUAUCCCUGAGAAUCUCCAUACCAAGUAUCUUCUUUGCUGGUCCCAAGUCUUUCAUCUCAAAUUCUUCACUUAGUUGGGCUUUGACCUUUCUUAUCUCUCAUUUAUCUUUCGCUGCUAUCAAUAUGUCAUCAACAUAAAUGAGUAGAUACACAAAAGAACCAUCAUUGUUUUUCUUAAAGUAAACACAACUGUCAAAGCUACUUCUUUUAAAAUCAUGAGAAGUCAUAAAGGAAUCAAACCUCUUAUACCACUGUCUUGGUGACUGUUUCAAACCGUAAAGAGACUUUUUUAGCAAGCAAACAUAGUCCUCUUUUUCUGAGACUGUAAAACCCUCUGGUUGUUGCAUGUAAAUAUCCUCCUCAAGUUCUCCAUGCAAAAAUGUAGUUUUUACAUCUAACUACUCAAGCUCCAAAUCAUGCAUGGCCACAAUACCAAGCAAAGCUCGAAUCGAACUAUGCUUCACAACUGGAGAGAACACAUCUGUGAAGUCCACUCCUGGAAUUUGACUGUAACUAUUUGCAACAAGCCUUGCUUUAUAUUUGGGUUCUUCAACUCUUGGAGUCCCCUCUUUCUUUUUAAACACCCAUUUACAACGAACAAUCUUUUUAACUUUGGGAAGUUUCACAAGAUCCCAUGUUUUGUUUUUGUGGAGUGAUUCUAUCUCCUCUUGCAUAGCAAACAUCCACUUUUCUGAAUCUUCACAACUAAUCGCCUUAGAAUAAUUAGAUGGCUCUUGGUUUGCAUCUAUAUCUUCAGCCACAUUUAAAGCAUAAGCAACUAGAUCAGCCUCAACAUACUUCUUUGGAGGUUUAAUUUCUCUUCUAGUUCUAUUUUUGGCGAUAGAGUAUUAUGGUGAAGAAGCAACUCUAUUUUGAAUUUUCGUACUGGCUUUAGUAGUCGACUCUGUUGUAGAUUCUAGAUCAAUCUGAUGCUCCACCUGCUUUAGAUUUUCUUUAUUGGAAGUCUUUAAGAGAUAACUUAGGUAGCAUAGCAGUUUCAUCUAAAACAUCUCUGCUAAUCACAACUUUUCUAUUUUCAGGACACCAUAACUUAUACCCUUUUACACCAGCUUUAUAACCAAGAAAAACACAUUUAGUAGAACUCGGUUCCAAUUUUCCAUUAUCAACAUGAGCAUACGCAGGACAACCAAAGAUUUUUAAAUUAGAAUAGUCAGCAAGAUUACCAGACCAUACUCUUGUGGAGUCUUUUUCUCAAUGGCAACGGAUGGAGAUCGGUUGAUCAAAAAACAUACAGUAGAGGCUGCUUCUGCCCCAAAAUGACUUUGAUAAGUUGGCAUUUGACAACAUAUAUCAAACCUUCUCCAUGAUCAUUUUGUUUAAUUUUUCUGCAAUGCCGUUUUUCUAUGGAGUAUGACGAACUGUCAAGUGUCUCACGAUCCCUUCUGACUUGCACAGUUUAUUAAAUUCAUCAGAACAGAACUCUAAGUCAUUGUCUGUGCAGAGGCAUUUUAGUUGCUUUCCUAUCUAUUUUUCAAUCAUGGUUUUUCAAGACUUAAAUGAGGAAAACACAUCACUUUUCCGCUUUAGGAAGAAUGCCUACACUUUUCUAGAAAAAUCAUCAAUUAAAGUUAGCAUAAGUAGCUCCACCUCUCGAAGGCACUCUGGAUGGCCCCCACAGAUCAGAAUGAAUAUACUCUAACGUUCCCUUCAUGUUAUGGAUUCCUCUGGUGAAUCAGACUCUCUUUUGCUUCCCAAAAAUGCAGUGCUUACAGAACUUCAGUUUGCAAAUUUCUUGCCCAUUAAGAAGUCCUCUUUUGCUCAAUUCUGCCAUGCCAUUCUCACUCAUAUGCCCUAGGCGCAUAUGCCAAAGUUUAGUAAUAUCAUCAUCUGACAAGGAAGAGGAUGAGACAGUUGCAUCACCAGUAACAGUAGAACCCUGCAAAACAUAUAACUUGGCAGUCUUUCUCUGCCCUUUCAUCACAAUGAGGGAACCUUUGGAAAUCUUCAAAACCCCACUUUCAACUGUGUAUUUGUACCCUUUUGAAUCAAGAGUACUCAACGAAAUUUAAUUUAUUUUUAAUUUUAGAACAUGUCGUACGUCAGUGAGUGUUCUGACAACUCCAUCAAACAUCUUAACUCUGAUUGUUCCAACACCUGCAAUUCUACAUGAAGCAUUAUUUCCCAUCAACACAAUACCUUCAGACACUAUUUCGUAAGUUGUAAACCAAUCCCGAUUGGGACUCAUGUGGAAGGUGCAACCCGAAUCAAGGAUCCACUCCUCGUCACUUUGGAAUUGUCGAUUGAAGUGACUAGAAGUUCACCAUCGCUGUAAUCUUCUACAACAUCAGCUUUACCAGAAUUUUCUAGUUGUUUUCCAUUUUGAUUCGCAGCCUCCCUUUUGAUCUUGUUCUGUAGCUUAUAGCACUCAGUUUUAAUGUGCCAUUUCUUCUUGCAAAAGUUACAAGUUUUACCUCUGUUUGAAGACUACUUUUAGAUUUACUGCGAGGAUUCCGUUCCUGUGUCCUUCCAUGAUCAUCAUCAGCAUUCCGAUCUUGUCUCCCAUGAACAAUAAGACCCUCUCCCCGAGAGUCGAUUUUAAGCACAAGAUGCUUCAUCUUAUCAUACGAGGUUAAAGAAUCAUAAACCUCAUCAACUGUGAGAGACUCGCGGUUAUAUAAAAUCGUAUCUCUAAAGGAUGAAUAAGAUGAGGGCAACGAACAAAGUAGAGUCAACCCUAGAUUUUCCUUAUCAUACUGAACCUCCAUGGCCUCCAAGUUUGAGAGAAUUUCUUUGAACACUAUUAAGUGUUCGUGCACAGAUGCACCUUCCUCCAAACGAUAAGCAUAAAGACGCUGCUUCAUAUGUAGCUUGAUAGUUAGAGUUUUCGACAUACAUAUCUAUUCCAACCUCUUCCAUAAUCCAGCAGCAGUCUUUUCCUUCAUCACAUCCUGCAAAAUUUUGUUAGACAAAUGCAGAUGUAACUGUGUUAAUGCCUUUCAAUCCUUGCACUUCUUCUUUUCUUUCGUCAAUGUUGAAGGCAUCUUAUCUACCCCUAGUAGGGCUUCCUCUAAGUCCAUCUGUGCAAGAACUGCUUGCAUCUUUAUCUGCCACAAUGCAAAUCUAGUAUUGCGAUCCAACAGCAGAAUUUUGUACUUCAAAGACGUUAUUACCGUGAUUGAGAUGAACAACCCAGAAGCUCUGAUACCAAUUUGUUAAAAAUAUAAUGUCGGUAAUGACAAUAUAUAGCAAAGAAAAUAGAAAUAGAAAAAUAAAGAACACACAGAUUUUACGUGGAAACCCUUUCGGGAAAAACCCACGGGCGGAGGAGAAGAAAAUUUACUAUGUCGAAUUCAAAUCAAUUACAAGAGGCGUAGACUAUGCCUAUUUAUAGGCUUGUAAACCUUAUUCUAAUAGGAGUGAAACUCCUUAUUCUAAUAAUAUCAAAUAGAUGAAGUUUAAUAAGGUUUAAAAAACCUUAUUCUAAAAUAAAAUAAAAGAAGUAUAAUUCUAUAGGGAUUUUACUUUUAUUUUAUUUUAUCACAGUAUUUAAUUUAAAUAAGGAUUUGGGUCACUUAAUUCUAAUAGUAUUGAUAUUAUUGUCAGUGUAGGAAAAUAUGAGUUUAAUCAUGCUCAAAUGUGUUUUAUCCUCCAAUUCAAGAGUUAGGAAAAGGUUAUUGAUAAUUAAAUUAUACCAACUUUUAUGAUAUUAAAAAAGGGUUUAUAAAUAAUAUAAGGAAAAGAAAAAAAAGCGAGAAACAUAUUCAUAUUGAUAUUAGACUUUUUUUUUUCUAUCACAAGUAAAAAUAUCAAAGGUGAUAAUAAUUAAAUUAAAAAAUUUAAAUUGAAAAAAUAGGGGAUUGAAUUUAUAACUAACAACAUAUUUUAACCACAUAAUAAAAGUAGUUAUGAAGAGGAUCAUGUAAAAUAAUGACCUGAAUAAUUUUAAACGUCUCAUUCUUGCAAAAAUGAAAUAAUAGAAAAGAAAUAAGUGUUGGGUGUAGUGACAAUGUACAUUAUACUUCUAAGGGGAGAUCAGGGUUUUAGGCAAGGGAAGAAUUUAAUUUAAACCUACUUUUUUUUCUCUAGAACUCAACCCAAACCUCAAAUUUAUCUUUUUAAAAGAAUUUUAAAAGAUCUAUAUAAAAGGUGAUUUUUUUUUAUCGAUUACACUUAACAAAAUUUUAAAAUUUCUUUUUUUGAAAUUUAAAGUGACCUAAAAACAUAUUUUUAAGUCCUUCAGACCAUCCUGUGCUGAUUUCUUUAUUAAUUUGAUUUGUUCAAUAUAGAUUUUGGUGACUUAAAACAAAAAUAAUAAAAAAUUAUUUUUUCAGAUAUGUUUUUAAUGUUUAAUAAUAAGUUAAUUUAUAAAAUAUACUUUCAUUGGAUACAGGCCUCCAAGGCGGUGAACCACUGAUCAAAUUAAUUUAGAGAUACCUAAAUUUGCUUUCAUCAAUUAAGAAAUUAAAAAAAAAUUGCUGAGACCUCAUGAUUAUCUUUUAUAAUUUCAGGCUUAUCACCAAAAACUAAAAAAUAAAAACGUCGACAUUAAAUUUGUUGGUAUGCAAUCAAUUUUAAGAUGGUUUUUGGAGUUAUAUAUCACUUUAGCAUGGACUUACUUUUCUACAGUUAGUCUUCUCCAACAAGUUAAAUAUUUAAAUUUUAACAACAUUGACAGGUCUUUGGGGUAGGGUCGAGCAAAACUCAAUAGAAACAGAUGAUAUAGAUUGAGUUGGCUCGGCCAAGUCGAGUCGACUUGUUCAAAUUAGUUAAAUUAGUAAAUUUUAGGGUGCAGUUAGUAUUUUUUGUUUUGAGAUGCUAAGAUUAAAAAAUUUCAGUUGUUAAAACAAAAAAAUUGUAUUAAAAAAAGGCAUAAAUUAAAUUAUUAAGUUUUUCAAGUUUCCAUUUAAUCAAAGGUUAAAAGGACUAAAUUGAAGCUUUUUAUUUUUAAGAAAGGCUGAAUGACAAAUUGCCCAAAGCCCAUGCCCCUAGCUAUACGCCCCUGGUAAAAUCAAUUUUAAAAUUAGUUAUAAUAGUUGAAGCGAAUUGAUUAUUGAGUAAUGAAAUACAUAGUUCAACAAAAAAAAUAAGUUGACAAAUUUUGACAAAAAAAUAUCAAAAAUGAAAUAAUAGAAAAGAAAGAGUAGGCAUUUUAUGAAAUUUAUAAUUCCAUGAAUAAAAUAUAAAUUUUAUGAAUGUGGACGAGCCAUUUUUUUAUAAUUUUCAGUGUUUUUCUUCUUUUUCUUACUUUUUUUAAAGUAUUUUUCUUUGUUUCCUAACCACCAUGAAAUUACUUGUCACAAUUCAUCUUUUCAAAUGAGAAACAUUUUCCACAAUUUGCCAUCACUUCAACAUACACUAACUUUUCUAUGAUUAGUCCUUGGUUUGCUUCGGGUGCAAUCUUCCAACUAGCCUUAUCCUUGGUUUUACUUUCCAACAUUUAGUGUAUCACGAGUUUUGUUUUCUUUAAAAAAAUAUUUUCGUGGAUAUUAGGAGAUAAUGAAAAUUAUUUUACUAUGAAAUUUUAAUAAAACUGGAAAAUAAGUAAUUUAUUUUAAGCGAUCACAAUUAAACAUUAGAUUCCAAUUUUUUAAUUUUUUUUUUACAAUUGCAUAAUAUUUUGAGCAUUGUAGGAAUGCCAUAACCUUCCCUACGCAUAAUAUACUCUUGAGCAUGAUGGAUCCUAGACCUUCUUUAUUCUCGUACCACAAAUUGCUUCAAGUGUGGGUUCGAACAAUCACAAAUUAAACACAAAACCAGAAAUGAUUUAUUACUUUCAAUAGCAAAGUAAUUCUCUUUCAAUAGAAACCAAUAAAAUUGUAAUUCCUAGAAAAUUAAAAUUUAUUUUUUCAAAAUAUCUUCUCUCUACUUUCUAGCAGAAUAACAAUAUGCGAAACUUAUGUCUUGUGUUAAUAGCCCUACCGGUACUAUCUAUUUAUAGGGAGAGACACGAGAAUCCUAGUUGAAUUAGUAAAACACAAAUAAUAUUUAUUUCAUAGAAACCAACAUUCUACCCUAAGUAGAUCAAGUUUGGAUGACGCAUGGAUCGAAGCUCAAUCUAGGGGAAAAAAAUAAAGGAAUUUUCUUUGUAAAGAAAAUCUGAGAUUAUACUAUUUUCGAAGUUAUAAAUAAAAUUAUACGCCAAAUUUUGAAGUCAAUUUUCAACUCAAAUGUUGUAUGUACAAAUUUCUAAUACACUUGGUGGGACAUUCUUUAACUUUUAUCUAUUCUCUCAAAACGUUAAAGUUCAAAGUUGCAUUAAACUCAAAAAAGAUAAUCAUUAGUAAACCAGCACACAAGCCUACUCAAGCUAAUCCUACAACUCGUUCCACUUCAUCAUCAAACACCAAUGUUCUUGCUUAUCCUUAUGGAAUUAAACAAAAGACAAAAGCUCUUUAAAGUUAUUUGAACAGACUUCUUUAAUGGUAAAUGAUAAUCCACUCUAUGAUGCUUCUUCGCCCAACUCAUGAUUUAAAAGAAGUUUCUACUCAUAGAUCAAGUGUAGCUCGCCAGUUAUCAUUAAGGAGAAAAAGGAGUCAAUCAAGUGAAAAUUAUAUUCCAACAUCUCCCCAGAACCAAAUUUCAUAGUGAUGAAUGUCAUGACAACUGACACUACAUUCUUAGAAGAAUAAGUAGAUUUCUAGCAAAAACGAUGGAGAGUUUUACUACAAGCAUAAAAGAAAUGGAUGAUCAAAUUGAACAUCUUAGUGGAAGUAACCAAACCUUUUCCAACGAAACUCAACAUCCUCUUCACAAAGUUGUUGGAAUCUUAAUUGUUGAAGGACUUUAAAGUGUUUCUUUAGAUCAACUCAAGGAGUUUAUUAAAAAAACCAUCAAAGAUCAAGUCAAAAGUGUUACUUUGCCUUCAUAUACAUACUCAAAGUCAUACAUCUGAAGGAUUUAUCAUUUGAAUAUGCCUGAGCAUUAUCCACCUUUAAAAUUGUAAUAGUUUGAUGGUAAAGGAAAUCCAUGUAAACAUGUCGUUCACUUCAUGGAAACUUGUGAUCGCGUCGAUGUAACACCCCACUCGUGACCCAAUCGCUGGAUUCAAGAAGAGAGAUACCAAAAUCAUGUUGGAAAAAAUCUUCGAUAAGUGUAGCAUGAGUGCUCACACUCUCCAAACACUCCAUACUAUCUUUGGUAUUGAAGUUAAGCUUGACACUCCCUUAUCUCUCUAAUGUUAUCUUCAGGCCAUAAUGCCCUAUCACAUAGUAAAAAAGGUGAGUACUCACAAUCCUAUGGCAUGCCAAUGAUAUCUAAUGGUUUCAAGUGUUCACAAUGCCAACAUAUGUUUUGUAUCACAUUCACUUUACACAAUUUAAAAGGGCUCACAAUACAGCAGAUCUCACGUAUAAUAGUUUUUAAUAACACAAUUCACAUUUCUGUAGGGCUCGUAUUAUAUAUAAGUUCGUAAUAACAUGGAUUCGCAUAACACUUAUGGCUCGCAUAUAUUUAGGGCUCAUAUGUAACAGUUGGGAUCCUAUAUAUUUAAACUCGCAUAAUACAGGGGCUCGCACGACAUAUUUUGGCUUGCAUGCAAUAUAGGGCUUGAUCACAUAUAUAGGUUCACAUGAUCUUAGGGCUCGCAUCACAUAUAUAAGCACGCAUGAUACAUGGGUUCACUCAACAUGUAUAUAUCAACUCGUGCAUCAAAGUAUAGGCUCGCAAGCAUUAAGGUGAUAGAGUUUGCAAACAAUUUAGAGCUCGCACACAUCAUAGGCUUGCAUACAUACAUGUUAGCAAGGUCUGCAGGUUACAAAUCGAGGCUCACAUAACUAUAGAGGCUUGCAUGGAAAUAUAAAAUUGUUCAGAUAUCAUUUUAAUCGGCUUCACACAUUAAAUCAAAUGGUUUGCAUGCAUUCCUUGGCUUUCAUUAGCAUGCGAACUCGUGUUUUUAACACAGUGUGCAAGGACACUCACUAGUUGUUUGUUGAUACUGUCGAACCUAUACCACCUUUUGCUUGACUUUUUCCUUGCUCAUGGAUGCACCUUCACAUUGAAAGGAUUUGCAUAAAACAAGAAAUAAUACAGAUUACUACUUUCACAGACAUAAUAACCUUCUUAACAAACAUAGUAGCGAAUCUUCCAAUCUUCCUUAAUAAUUCCUUAAAUGAAGCUAAACCAAAAUGCAUUAUAAAUUCAAUCAAUUUACCAUUAAACCAGCCCCCAAACACCCACUUAUAAGUUCAAACUGAUCAUUGAAAUUAUAAUUAUUUUAUGAAUCCAAACUAGUUAGAUUCCUUAAACUGUAUUGAUGCGAAUUGUAUGUACAAUCGUUCUUCACCUUUACGGAUGAUUUGGGGUGUUUGGGUCAACACCUAAUUCAAUAAUAUACUGGAAAACUAGUAGUUAACCAAUUCAUAACCUUUACCCAACAACUAUGUCGAAAUAACAAACUAGUUUAUAAUUAAUCGUACUUAUACCAAAUUGCGAGAUCUGAAUGGCUAAUUGAUCAAGAAUGUGUUUUGUAACAUCCCAAAAAUUAGGUUAGAAGAAAUGGGGCUUUGAAACCAAGAGUGGUCAUCCCCCGAUUAUGAGUUUAGAUCUUGGAAAAUUUGACAAGUAAACUGAUCUGGUUAAUGGUUAAGUGUCUUGGUUAUAUGUGUCAGGUUUUGGGUUCAAAUCUUGUUUUUGGAAAUUUUGUUACUUUGCUUAAACUCUUACCUUGAAUGUUUGGUUUAUAAGUUAAAUUUAGUCAAUUGAUGUCAAGAAUGAGUCUAUUGGUUCAAUGGUUAAGUUUUUGUAUAAUCAUUGGUCUUGUGUUCGAAUCUCAACAAAAGUAAUAGGGAAUGUUUUGUUUUUAAAUUUUUUUUAUAGGGUAGUUAGUUUCGAUUGGUUAUUUAAAGCCUUCCAGAAACCUCUAUUGCUUUUAUUUUUAUUUUGUUCUUUCUUUUUCUGCGACAUUUUCUAUCAUUUUGUUUCUGUUCUUUAGUUUCGUCAUAUUGGUUUUUUAUUUUCAAGCAACUUUUUUUUUGUUAUGUUACAUUACGCCGAUUGUGUACGGAGUCUAACUUCACCCUCUAGUUAAUUCGCUGGCCGGUAAGUUCGAUUUAAAGUUUUGGUGUUGAAAGUUUUUUAACGUAAAUUUAAUUUUGAAAUGUUAGUUUUUAGUGGUUUAGCUGCAAAUUAAUCGUUUGUUGGAAAAUUGCUUGUCGUUCAGGGACAUGAAUUUAUCCUUGUUACUCUUGCAUCAAGUUCGUAUCAAGUGGGUAUCAGAAAACCCUUCUUCUUUAAAUUUUAGUUGUCAAAUAAUGGCACUAUCGAUGCCACAUAGCUGUGUGGCAGGCCGUGUAACUUACUGUUCAAAAAAAUUAGAGGCAUACGAGCGUGGGCCCAAAUUGUGUGUGGUUAUGAAUUGUGUAGGGUUCACACAGGCCAGUGACACUAGCAUGUGUCAGGUCGUGUGGGACACACGGGCAAGUACACGAGCGUUUACCAGACUGUGUGGAGUCACAUGGGCCAGUUCUCUAGGCCGUGUAAAACCAUAUAGGUAUGUGAAGCAAUAUUUGGAAUUUUUCCCUUGGGUUACAAGAGUUGUUUGAAACAAACGCAUAAAUACUGUAGGGUCCGUACGAUUUGGAUUAGGCUAUAUAACUUGAUAUUUGAUGAUAUGAUGAUGAACAACUUGUGAUCUAUACGUAUAUUUGUUAUGUUUGAACCUAUGUGAGUAGGAUCUGUUAGAAUGUAACAUGUUAUUUUUUGUUGUGUGUGAACUAUCCAGGUACAAUUUGUAUUCUAUUAAGUUUUUUGGUACGCCUAUGUGUUACUCUAUUGAUGAAGAAUAUGUGACAUUUGAUUAUGUUAGAUUGAUUGUUACUGAUUAUAAUUUAUAACCCUCUACGUUACUUCAUUGAUGAGGAAUACACGUAUAUGAAAAUGUUAGAUUGAUUGUUACUGAUUCUAAUUUAUAGUCGUGUAUGUGACUUCAUGGCAAAUAUGAUAUGAUUUGUUGAGGUUUGAUAAGUCUAUUUUACAAAACAUGGACCCUCAUGUCUCCUGAUUCUGUUAUUGAAAGAUAUCAUGACUUACAUGCUCAUCACUCUAAUUCUUCAUAUGUAUGUCAUGACACGUUGCAUGGGAUUUGGGUUGAUGUGAAAGGAGGAAGUUUUUGGCAGUUAAUGAUCUGUAUUAUCUGGUGGUUUAUCCAUGAUUCUGUUCCGGCAACUUAGUUGUACUAUAGUGGCUUGACCAAAUGUAACCGAUCUGGCAGUCUUAACUGCAAAAUUUUGGUGGCACCAUUCACAAUUAUCUAUUGGUGUAAUUUGGCCGGAUGAGUUAUGGGGGAACUCUAUUUUGGUUAGUAGCAAAGUUUGGGUAUGAUGUUUUCUGAUAAUUUUGCAUUCUAAUCUAUUUGAAAAAUACAAUAUUUGCAUAACACAUUUUCUACUCUGCUCUAUUCUGUUCUACUCAGUUCUAUUCUGCUUGAUUUAUUAUGUUCUGCUUCAUUCUGUUGUGUUCGGUUCUGUUGGACUGUUGUUGUGAAAAUUUUCGUGAUACUCUAGAUCUAUUCCAUACUGGUUAUAAAUUUGUUAUUAAGUUCUUUGCGUUACUUUGAUUUAUAUAAUAAAAUCUGUUUAUUUGUAUCUAAGUUUCAUUAUACACGACGCUUGGUGUUUCACCCUUUGUCUUAUCUUAAUCUGUUCAAGUGCACAUCUUACUUACGACUAGAUGUACAGGAGCUCAGAUUGUUUUGCAUUGAUAUAACUAUGAUUUGAUCUUUUAGGUUGUAAUUUGUUUUUGGACUUGUCUUGCUUUUCUUUUGAUAAUCUCGUCAAUAUCUGUCAUUUUCUAACACAAAAAUAAAAAACCACCUAAGUCGACUAAAAUGAAUUUCUGGUUUUCAAAGUUGAAAUUUUGAAAAGAAACUAGUUUUCUGCACGUUGGCGUAACUCGUCCAAAUUUGGCUUAAAUUUGUAGGUCGAGUUUGGGGUGUUACAUCUUUCCCUAAUUAACAUGUGAUUAAAUAUUUAUUAGAAGGAUUCAAAAACUCAACUUAAUGCUGGAAAAAUAUGGGCAAGAACCAAGAAACAAAACAACCCCCUUUCUUACACAUAGCCGUACGAACCACCACCCAUGAUGGCCAAAAUUGGGGUUGAAUUUUAAAAUGGUUUGAGAUCUCAUUAAAAAUAUAGAAAAACACAUUUGUGUCGAAACCACUAUUUAUUUUUGAAAAAUGGGAAUCAACUUUAAAAAAUGAAAAUGGGAGUCACCACUGAUCUUUUAUUGAGGUGUGAUCAGAUCACCUUAAAAAUGAUUUUAGGUCUACGAAUUUUAAGAAAAUAGGUUUCGGAGUUGGUUACACACGAGGAAGGGUUAGCACCCUCAUAACGCCCAAAAUUGGUAUCGAAUAGACUGUUUAAUGUCUUAGUGUCGAAAAUUUGAAAACAUUUUAAAAUACGAUCCUUUUUUAAAGAAAAUUUGAAUAAGUUGACUUAGAAGAUAAGACCCUUUUAUUUCGAAGAAGUAAAAUAUCACAUCCAGUGAGUUAGGGUGCAACAUUUCUAAUCCUUAAAAUUAAGUUUGUCUUUUGAUUUUUAAAACUCAUGCAUUUAAAUUUGAAAAGGAUAUUCAGUUAUUUGGGUCAAAUGAAAAAUCAAAACCCAAUAAGUUAGGGUUCAACUUCCAAAAAUUGCUAAAUACCGAAUAUUGCCUUUAUUUUUUUUAGAAAUCCAUAACUCAAGAUAACCAAAUGACAUAUCCAGUAAGUUAGGAUCCAACAUUUUGAAAUCCCAAUAGAGAACUUUUUAUUUAGGAUUUGUAUGGUUUUAUUGCAAAAGAGAUACUUGGCUAUCUAAAUUCAUCGAAGAGAAUUGAAGCCCACUAAGUUAGGGCAAAAUCUUCUCGAAAAUCGUGAAUACCGAGUAUUUUGAAAAUUUACGAAAUAAGAUGAUUUUAAUGCUUUAAGGAAACAUAAUUUUUAAAACAAAUGUAGUGUGAUUGAACGACAAUGUACAAUGCAAAAGGAUAAUUAAAAAAAAACAUGUAUACAUUAGUGAAUAACUAUCAAUCAAUAAAUAUAAAUAAGUAAAAUGAUACAUACGAGAACAAUAAUCUUACAUUCCAGAUUAUGCAAAUACUAAAUUUUAAAACUAAUGAAUUAUAAAUUAAUUUUGAAAGAAAUGCCAAGCAAACUAACACAAAUAAAAUAUAACAAGUUUUAAAAAUAAAAAGAAAUAAAAAAAGUACACAGAAAGAAAUUUAAAAUCAUCAGUACAAACAAUAAGUUAUAUGAAUAAUAUUUCAAAAUAAACAAUAUAUAUAUGAAUUUGAAAUAGUUCAAAAAUAAAGGUAAAAAAAUACUAUGUGAAAAGAAAUAAUAUCUAAAUGAAUUUUAAACAAAUAUUGUAUACAAAGAAAAUCAAAAUAAGUAAUACACAAAAUAAUACACGUAUAUCAAUCUAAAUGAAUAAUACAUAUUAAAAAAUCUUUAAAUCAUAGAAAUAUAAAUAAGUGAAUUUUUUAAAAAAUUUAAUUAUACUGCAAAAUAAAACCAUUAAAGAAUGUGUACAAUUCUAUUGAAUUUAUAUAAAAUAAUAUAUGACAAAUUAUAAUAAUAAUACAUAAUAAAUCUGAAAUAACAAUAUACAAUAAACUUAGAUAAUAUUAAUGAUAAAUUUAAGAUAAUAAUAAGUUUUAACAUUCAAAUAAUAUUAGAUUUAAAAUUAAAAAUAAAAAAUAGCAUAAUAAAAAAUACUUAAAUAAGUAAAAAGCAAGCAAAUUAAAAUAAAGUAAUGAGGAUUAAAUUGAAUUUAAAACAAAAUUUAAAAUAAAAAAAUGAGAAUAAAACAAAACUGAGAGCCAAAAAAAGACGCGCGGAUAACAUGGGGACCAAAUGGGAAAUAUUCCCUUCCUUCAAAACGCAGCGUUUUGACACGGACCAAAUUGGAAUGAAACAUAGAAUGCGUGGCCAAAUCUAAAUAAAAUAAAAGGAUAAAUUUGAAAGAGUUAUAAAAAGAACGGGGACCAUUUGCGCAAAUUUCUCCUACGCUAUAAAACGCGCGGAUACUUCUCCGGGUAGGGUCACCGGGCGCGUAUAGGCCAAUAUAGUGUCGUUUUGAAGCCACUGAAGCAGGCUGAAAAUGACAUCAUCACAAAAUUAGUAUAAGAUUAAAAUUAAAGCAAACAUUAAGCCAUUUAACCACAGAAACCCUAGCCCCUUUCGCCGUUCUGAACUUUGCUAAUUCUUUUAGCCUUGAAACCCUUGCCAAACUCUGAUCACGGCGAAGCAAACAAGGAUUUCGCGGCGGUUUUAUUAAGGUAACUUAUUCUUUUGUUAAUCGCCUCUUUUUUAUAUCUAGUAAUAAACAAAAUAAGGAUUCAAGAGCAGAGAAGAGAACUAUCAAGAGAAAAAGAAAAAAAUGAAAACUCAAAUCACCUUUCGAGAUUUCGUAUUUUUUGCCUAUUAGAUUUCUUUUUCUGAAUCAGUAUAUGUAAUCCUUUUACAAAUGAAUCAAUCGGCUUUAUAUAGCCGAAUAAAACCAAAAAAUUACAAAAUUAUUAUUUUUGUUAUUUAUCACUGCUGCUAUUCUCGUUUUUUCUUUUAUGUUAUUGCCUUCCUUCGUUUGCUUGUUUGUUGCGUCUAUUGUAGGUACCAAACCAGCUGGAGCACACGCAUGGAGGCACAAUGGAUGGGGGGCACACGCGUGUGGGGUUGGAGCUGCUGCGGCGUUGGGGCAACAGGCUAGGGUUUUUGGAAACUGCUUAGGUUUAUCUAGGUUUGGGCUUGUUGGGCCAAAUGGGGUUAGUUUUGGGUACUUUAAGUUAAAAUGAUUUGGGCUAUGUAUUUGGGUAUGGGUUUUAGGCUAAUACUGGACUACUAUUAUUUUUAUUUUAUUUUGGUUUAUUAUUGAUUGGGCCUAGGUUUUAUUAGAUUUGUAAUUGUAUUUGGUUUUUUAGUAUUUGGUUUGGGCUAGGCAAAAUUUGGUAUUACAAUUUGAAUUCAUUUAAAAUCCCCCAAAUUCCAGAUCUAAAAUUUUUUCUUUUUAAUUGACAAGAUUAAUUAAGAAAUUGAAGAGAAAAGAGAUCUUACCCAAGCCAGUUGAGAGAAAUGACGAUGACACUUUCUUUGCAAUGCUCAAGAUCGAUCUUAGGGUUCAAGAUUUUAGAUUUGGGGAUGAUUUAAAUGAGGAUAAAUGAUAGCAAUAGAGUAAAGGAGAUGGUGCACAAUCUUGAUGCAAAAAGAAGAAGAAAGAGAUGGUAAAUGGGAGGUGUAAGCAAUGACAACAAUGGGAGAAAGAAAGAAAAUAAGAGAAAAGUGGGGAGGAAGAUGCUGAACAGAUAGGGUAGGGAAAAAUUGAAUUUUAGGCUAAAAAUAUACUUAGGGUUCAAGGUUAUGGACAGCACACACAUUUAAAAAACAAAGGAUUUUGCAAAAUUUACUAUUUUGCAAGGGAAAGGAUUCGAAAUUGGGACCUCAUUUAAUUUUCAUGUUUUCUCAUAUUUCUUUUAACCAUUAGGAUUUUUCCUCAUUCUUAAAAUCAUUUUGAAAUAUUUAUUUUAAAAAUAAGGCAUGUCACACUAGGGUUUAAGGCAAAAUUAGCAAAAUAAUAAAAAAAAUGAGAGAGAAGGGGGUUUCAAGGAACGCUUCACUAAAACUUAUCCAACAAACCAACACCUCAUUAUUUUCCUAAAUAUGCAUAGGUAAUCAUCAAAAUUAAGGCAUCACCACUCUUUCUCGAUUCACAAACCCGAUUCUACUAACCCUUGAUUUUUGGGAUGUUAUAAGGUGAGUUCGUAGUGUAACAAUAUAUAUGUGUGUGUUUUGGGGAUACGAUUGGCAUGCCAAUAGGGUUAGUUACACUUCAAUGCCUCUCUUUACAAUUUGGUGCCACUGUAUUUGCACUACAGUGCCUCUGUUAGUAUUUCGAUGUUUAGGGGAAACCCGAGUAUCCAAGUCAUUUUAAUAUAGUUCAAAAGGCCAUGAAAUUUUAUGUUUAAAUGUUAAAUUACUCUUGAGUUUGAUUUAUGUAUAAAAUGAUAUAUUUGUGUAUAUACGUAUAUAAGCAUGGAUUGCUUUGGUUUGAGCCAUUGUUUAUAUUGAAUCAUAUGAGACAAAUGUUUUGAUUAGUAUAGUUUGAGAAUAAAUAUUAAUGCUUUGGUGUAAUUAUAUGAUUCAUAUGUCUAUAAACAUGAAUCUAAUUAUGUUUAUGGUGUGUUUAGAGAAUUAAAUGGUUAUAUGAUUAUUUUCCAGGUAUUCGAGGUUGUUUAAUUUGGUUUAAUGGGUAAAUAAAGCUUUAAAGGGUAUGUGAUUACAUGAAAUGAACUAUCAUAUUUGAGUAAUGAUAUGGAUUAUGAUGAAAUGUUUAAUUGAAAAGAAAAUAUGGUUUAGUAUAUAUGUAUGAGUGGUGAAUUAUGAAAGUGAAAUGUAGAUAUGUUUUAUACCAUGUUUUGAUUUGAAUUAUAUAUGAUAUGUUACACCAACUAACCUUGUGAGGUGGUGUGUAUAGGAAAGGAAAGUUGGCUUAAAACAUAAUGAAAUUAUGCUUGGUUUUUUAACUUAAAAUAUUCAAUAAGUUAAGUUUCAUUUAUAUGAACUUACUAAACAUUAAUUGCUUACAUAGUUAUUUUUCUUUAUUUUGUAGUUCAUCAGAAGCUCGGCCGGUUGGAAUCAUGUCAGAGCACGAUCACACUAUCCAUUCAACAUUUUGAUAGUUUUUGGUUAUUUUGGUAAAUGGUUAUAAAUGACAUGAAAUAGGGUUUAAAGGUCAUUCCAGUGAUUUGACUUGUUUUGAGUUGUGUCAAGCUUAUUGUGAUUAAUGUUGUUAGUUGCUGGCAUGUAAAUAAUGGUGUAAAUAUGUGUGGUCGGACCCUUAUGCAUGCUUUAUUGAUUAAAGAUAUCAUAUGUUAAAAUGGCAUGUUUUUGGAAUGGUUAUUUGGCAUGAUUGGUAUAGGUUUAAGUUAUGAUCUUGAGAUGUUGAAUUGAAUUAAGUUUGAUAUGUAUAUUGUGAUGCCUUCAUUGACAUAUUGGUUAGAUAUUAAGGGAUGGUUGAUUUGGUAUGUUUUUGAAAUGGUUGUUGGUAUGUUUGAUCUAAGUUGAUUAAAUGAACUUGUAAUGUUGAAUGGUAUAAUAUUUGUUGGUACAUUCAUUAGUCUUAUAGGUUGAUGGAAUUGGUAUGUUUUAAAUGUGUUUUAAAUGUGUUUUGAUUAUUUGGAUGUUUGUGGAAAUGGUGUCUCUUGGUGUACAAGAUUUGAAAUUGAAACGGCUUGAUUUAGAAUCAACUUAUGCUGCACACUGCCUGGGACAUGGAUUGUCACAUGGCUGUGUCAUAAUUGUUUUAGGUACGGGUUUCACACAAUCUAAGACUCGGCUCACGACACAGUUGUGUAUCACAAGUCAGUAUGUAACACAGUUUUGCACAUGGCCUGCGACACGAUCUUGUGUCUAGACUUCGAAUGUCCACAUGGUCUGGGCUAUGUCACAUGGCUUGGCCACAUGGUCGUGUGACUUUUGUUUUCAAGUUUUCCAAAAUUUUCUAUUUUAUUUCAAAUUGAUCCUAGAAUAUUCUCAAACUAUUUUUAAGGCCCCGUAGGUUCGGAUUAAGGCCCCGUAAGUGUAUGUUUGCUAUAAUUAAGUUGUGCUACUGAAUGUUACUAAUUCAAUCACAUGAAUAUUUUGUUGUAAGUUAAAUGUUUUAAUUUUUACUAUAAUGCUCUGUAACCUUAAUCUUGCGAUGAAAACAGGUUUGGCGUGUUACAAUUUUGGAUUGUAAAUUUGUUUUGGGGCUUUGUUCUUUGGUUCUUGCGAUGUUGGUUAGAUUUUGGUGUUUUAACAUUAAACUGCAAAAUUGUAUAACUUAAUAAACUAAAAAUUAGGUUUUCAAAAUUAAAACUCUGGAAAUUUUUCUUGCAAAGUUUAAGUAAUCACUUAAGUGUUUUUCCAUAAAUAAUUAAAUGGUUUUUAACAAAUGUUUUCCUUAGUUUUGGAAAUGAUCUGCCAAUAUUAGUACUUUUAAAACACAUGAUUUCAAAUUCAAAUUCUCAGUUUUAAAUAAGGGUUUUCACACUUCAGUUUUUUUUAAACAUUUGUGAGAGGUUUUUGCCAAAUUUUAUGUUUUCAGAAUGUGUAACUAAGUUGAUUUUUAAUUAGUUUUUCAAACGAGUCGAGUAAUUCCUCAAAAAUCCAGUCAUAGCGUCUAGGCCGGGUUUGGGAUGUUAUACUGACGUUACUAAAGUUAAUCUUCAUCUAUUUAGUCUAGAUCUAAACAUUAAUAUUCUCUUCCAAGAAAAAUCAAGACUAUCAAUUUGUUAAAACUUGGUAGGCAGACAAUCAUAUUAAAUAUGCAUAAAACUCAAUAAGUAAUUUGCGAAGAUUGAAACAAUCAAAGAAAAAAUUAAUUAAUUAACUAAGAAAUAGGAUACAUUGCUGUUUCAAGGAAACAGGGUUUAGUUCACAUUGAGUUGAGAAAACCAAAAGGGAGAUUCAAAAUGAACUUGUGAUAAGGGGAAUAAUGUCAAUGGAUCAUAUUCAAGUUGUUCAGCUCGAGAAAGAAAGAUUCAGAUUUAACUUGAAAAGAGUAAACCAAAAAGAUUUAGAAAAACAAAGAAAAUAACUAAAAUGAUAAAUUUAAGAAUAAAUAAUCAAUAUUAAAAAUAAUAAAGAAAUUAUAGAAUAAAUAGUGGAAGAUGGAAUGAAUAAACGAUGGAUAUGACAUAUAGAUGGAUAAGUGUCUUAUAAUUCAUGAAAAGAGUUAUAUUUCAUGCCUUUAGACCUAACUAAUUGCUUGUACUUACGUACAUUUUGUUGCAUUUUAAGACAUAUUAGUUAGCAUUUCUAAUAUUGCAUUAGGACUUAGAUUGUGCUGGAAUUAGCUGUUUUUAAUCGCUCGUGGUGGAGUUUUUUUUGUGUUUUGGUAUAGAAGGAACAUGUUUUAGAUCGAGGAAAUAAAUGAGUGAAGUUUUGUCAAGGCAAAACUGCAGAUAGUUUGCCAGCACGGAUGCCGUGACAAUGCCGGGAAGACCAAGUCAACAUUUUUUUGUGCAAUAGUCUCAGUUGAAAUUAAAACUUGUACCAGAUAAAUCUCCCUAAAAGAGGAAAAGAUAAUCACAAGACCCUAGCCUAAUCUAUCUAUAAAAGCCAAUAAAGGGGAUUCUCACAAAUGGCAGAAAAAAGUGGGAAGGAUCCUUAGGUGUGAAUAAGGGUUUAGCUGCGCAAAGGAAAGGAAGUCGAAGGCAGUCCUUUUUAGCCAUCACAGGACAUUGUGUUGCCGAAGUGUGGACUAGGCAAGUGAAAGUUGUUUACCAAAGUUCUUUUGUUAUUUCCAUCAGCGUUCCUUCAAAAUAUUGAAGUAGUUGAACACAAUGUUGGAUAAUAUUUUGCUUUGGAAUUUUAUUUCUCAUCCCACGAGCUAAAUCUCGUAGGGUUGGGAUUACUUUUGAUGAAACCUUAAACUAUUUUUAUGAAUGCAGUAUAUAUCUAAUUUACUUUACUGUUUCAUUUGAUUGUUCUUAUUUCUUAAUUAAAAUGCAAAUGAUCUCUAAACAUAGAAGACUGUUCACAUACUUAUAAAUUGAUUCUAAUUCUGAAAGGGUUGGAUUGGUUGGAUUAAAAUUAAAUGAAAUGAGCAAGUAUUCGAUGGACACUUGUAGUAGACUCUAGACAUAGAGUGGCGAUCAUACAGAAGGAACCCAUGCAAGGUAUCUAAAAAGUCUUUAGACACAAGCAAGGUAACUUGAGGGUUUGCUCUCACGAGAGGCAAGCCAUUUUAGUACUCUUCUGUGCUUUAAAGUAGAUACGAUUUUGCCAAGGCAUUAUUGACAGUAAGAGUCGAUUUUGGGUAAUCAACCUUCCAAAUCCACAUCGUAUAUCCUUUAUUCCUUACCAUAAUAUAUUUGCCACAUCAUUAUUAGUUAUUUAUUUGUUCAUUUACAUAAUAUUCCCGUAGUAAUUCUCAUAAUUGUCAUUACAUUUCUACUCUCGGUUUGCCACAACAUUACCAGUUAUUUAUUAAUUCCACGUAUUGCUUACAUCAUUACUCUACUAAUUGUGACUAUAUAUUUAUCAUUGAGUCUGCCAUAGCAUUAAUCAUAUUUUAUUAUAAUAACUUGAUCAAUUUUGUGCCUCAAUUCGAUCCCCAUGGGAAUGAUUCUCACUCAUCAGUUUAUUACUUGAUUCAACUGUAUACAUGCACAAAUCACAUAUCAUUUCACACACGACAGUGUUCAAUUGAACCCUUUGAGUUAUAAACUCGAACAAACUCAAUUAAUGGAUUUAAUCAACCCACCAAGAAAGAAUCAUUGGAAAAUUGAAGGAUGGAGAAUGAAUUCCCAUGACUCCUUAAAAAAAUUGAGAAGAAAACUACUUCUAAAAAUCACAAGAAACAAAUCUUGCACAAAGAAACUAACUCUCAGAGUUGGAAAUUUUAGUAAUAAACAAAAACAAUUGCGUCUCUAAUGAACAUGAAAGGGCCUUUACAUAGGCUAGAUAAGUACAUCCAAAUAAAAUUGUCAAGUAUCUAGAAACUUUAAUUAAUGUAAGCAAGAAGUAAUUUUAAACUAAAAUAGUCAUAAUUUUCGUAAUAAUCUCGUCCAAAAAUUUUGCUCACAUAGUCAUCAUUAAAAUAGUCAUAAUUUGAUCUUCUAAACUCAAAAUCGAGUGAAUAAAAGUGCGUUUCGAAGUUAAGUGAUAGAUCUUAGAACUCUAUGAGGACAUAUCAAUUGAAAAAUGCCUGGAUUCCAUCCAAAAAUUCACCGCAAGUUAACUAAUUUUUCAAACUUGAAAAUUGGUAGCUUCGGUGAAUGGAAUUUAAUAAAGUUCACCCCAUCUAUUCAUGUAUCAACUUGCAUUGUAAAAAGUAAAAAGAAAUAAUCUAUAGAGAAAAUAGUUGAAGAAUUUAUGACAAUUUAUUCAGAUCUCGUUUUCUUCUAGUCUUUACAAGCUUGAAGUUUCCCUUGGUGUGAGAGAGUUGUUCCUUACCCUCUAAGUGAUUUUUUUUCUUUUUCUUUCUCUUCGAUCUCGUCACCUAAGGGUGUUCAAACGAUUGAUUCAGUUAAUACCCGAACAAAACUAUCAUUAACUAAAAUUUUGAAACCCUUAAUCAUUAAUCAAACCAAAAUUUAUUUGAAACCUAUUAACCAGCCAGAUUGAUUUCGAUUAAUUUGAGCGGUUAACCAGAAUUUAUACACUGUUUGAUUUUGUUCAAACAAUUUUAAAACAAAGAAUAAUCCACAACAAUUUUUUCCGUAUUUUUUAUUCAAAAAAAUUAAAAGAAUUAAAAAAAAUAACAUAAUAACAACACUAAAUUAAAAACGUAAUAGCAUUCAUUACAUUACAAAGCAUAUAUAUAUAUUUACUUUUUCUUGAAUUUUUAGUUUAAUUUUAGUUUUUAUUCAAAUAUUUUUAGUUUUCAUAAUUUUGUUAAGCUUAUUAUAAGAGAACUUAUAAAUCCAUUAGUUUUUAUAUAUUGGGUUUGUAUAAUGUAUUUGACCUGUCUCUAAUAUAUUGGGCCUAUAAUAUAUUUUUAUUGAUUUCGGUUAAUCAAUUAAUUCGGUUAAUUAGUCGAUUUCAAACUAAACUAAUUGGUAAACAAAAUCUUCAAAAACCUUUAACCAACUCCCAACCAAAUUAGAUUCGUUGAUCAACUGCUUAAUCAAAUUAAUUAGGUUUGAUAAAUUAAUUCGUUAAAACCGAAAAAUUGACAUCCCUAUCACCACCUUUGUUUUUAGGGAUUUUAAUCAUGUUACUCCACUUGAUGCAGAAGUUGAGGUGGAACGAAUUGCUUGCUACCAAAAUUUAUGAAUUAUAGACCAUGCUCCACCCGGUGAAUCAAAUUCAGUGGAGUGGAAGACUUUUUCUUCACUACUUUGUGCUCUAUGCUCCAAGUCUUCUAUUCUUCUUCCGAGACCAACAAUGGGAAAAUUAAAAAUAAGAAACAAGUCUGAACUAACUUUGACAAUUAGAAAUUUUCAACAAAAUUGAAAUAAAAUAUAAUUAAUUAAUAAAAACUAUAAAAUUCAACAAAAACGAACCUAAAUACUAAAUUUACCUCCUAAAAUGCUAUGGAAACUAUAUUAAAAUAACUCUAAAUAUGAUAGUUAUCAAAAGCGACCUGAAGAAGCCAAUAUUCGAGUAGAUGAUUUCAACUAUUGCAAAUACCAUCAGUCGAUUAGCCAUCCUCUUGAGAAGAUUAUAGAGUUGAACGAAAAAAAUCAUACAACUCCAUGAAGAAGAAAAAAUCAUGUUUGAAAAAGAAGUGGCAUAAUCAAACUUGACAUCAAUGCUUUGGUUUCUCAAUACAAUAUUAUGGACAGAUUCAUCAAAUUUGGCUCUUUCAAUCCUAUUACACUAGCUCUAAGUAGAAGUAAGAUGGUGAAUUUCGAAAGGAUUGGGGGCAAUCAUCUAUUCUUGGAAUACCAGAAUGGUCAUUAUUGGACUCUAGCCACAUGUCAAAGAAGCCAAUGAAAAGCAUCUCUCCUAGGUAUAAGCUUAUAUUGUCACAUUACUCCUAAGCACGAGCAUAAAUUAGUCAUCCAAAAUGAUGAUGCUUCUAAGCAUGAGCUUAAAUUGUUCAUCUAAUGCUCCUAAGAAGGAGCCUAAACUAUUCAACCCAAAUGGUCAUGCUUUAAGAAAAAUCUUAAACUAUUUUUAAGGCCUUAUAGUUCGGAUUAAGGCCCGUAAGUGUAUGUUUGUUAUAAUUAAGUUGUGUUAUUGAAUGUUAUUAAUUCAAUCACAUGAAUAUUUUGUUGUAAGUUAAAUGUUUUAAUUUGUACUAUAAUGCUCCAUAACCCUAAUCUGGCAAUGGAAACAGGUUUGGCGUGUUACAAUUUUGGGUUCUUGCGAUGUUGGUUGGAUUUUCGUGUUUUAACAUUAAACUGCAAAAUUGUAUGAUUUAACAAACUAAAAUUAGGUUUUCAAAGUUAAAACUCUGGAAAUUUUUGUUGCAAAGUAUAAGUAAUCACUUAAGUGUUUUUCCAUAUAUAAUUAAAUGGUUUUUAACAAAUGUUUUCCUUAGUUUUGGAAAUGAUCUGCCACCAUUAGUACUUUUAAAACACAUGAUUUCAAAUUCAAAUUCUUUGUUUUAAAUAAGGGUUUUCACACUUCGUUUUUUUUUAACAUUUGUGAGAGGUUUUCGCCAAAUUUUAUGUUUUCAGAACGUGUAACUAAGUUGAUUUUUAAUUCGUUUUUCAAAUGAGUCGAUGUAAUUCCUCAAAAAUCCAGUCAUAGCAUCUAGGCCGGGUUUGGAUGUUAUACUGAUAUUACUAAAGUUAAUCUUCAUCUAUUUAGUCUAGAUCUAAACAUUAAUAUUCUCUUCCAAGAAAAAUCAAGAUGAUCAAAUUGUUAAAACUUGGUAGGCAGACAAUCAUAUUAAAUAUGCAUAAAACUUAAUAAAUAAUUAGCGAAGAUUGAAACAAUCAAAGAAAAAAUAAAUUAAUUAACUAAGAAAUAGGAUCCAUUAUUGUUUCAAGAAAAUAGAGUUUAGUUCACAUUGAGUUGAGAAAACCAAAAGGGAGAUUCAAAAAAAACUUGUGAUAAGGGGAAUAAUGUCAAUAGAUCAUAUUCAAGUUGUUCGGCUCGAGAAAGAAAGAUUCAGAUCUAACUUGAAAAGAAGAAACUAAAAAUAUUUAGAAAAACAAGAAAAAACAAAGAAAAUAACUAAAAUGAUAAAUUUAAGAAUAAAUAAUCAAUAUUAAAAAUAAUAAAGAAAUAAAGAAAUUAUAGAAUAAAUAGUGGAAGAUGGAAUGAAUAAAUGAUGGAUAUGACAUAUAGAUGGAUAAGUGUCUUAUAAUUCAUGAAAAGAGUUAUAUUUCAUGCCUUUAGAUCUAACUAACUGCUUGUACUUAAGUACAUUUUGUUGCAUUUUAAGACAUUUUAGUUAGUGUUUCUAAUAUUGCAUUAGGACUUAGAUUGUGUUGGAAUUAGGUGUUUUUAAUCGCUCGUGGUGGAGUUUUUCUGUGUGUUGGCAUGGCAAGAACAUAUUUUAGAAUGAGGAAAUAAAUGAGUGAAGUUUUGUUAGGGAAAAAGUGCAGACAAUUUGCCAACACGGAUGCCGUGACAAUGCUGGGAAGACCAAGUAACAUUUUUUUGCGCAAUAGUCUCAGUUGAAAUUAAAACUUGUACCAGAUAAAUCUCCCUAAAAGAGGAGAAGAUAAUCACAAGAUGUCAGCUGACCCUAGCCUAAUCUAUCUAUAAAAGCCAAUAAAGGGGAUCUCACAAUUGGCAGAAAAAAGUGGGAGAGAUCCUUAGGUGUGAAUAAGGUUUUAGCUGCGCAAAGGAAAGGAAGUCAAAGGCAGUCCUUUUUAGCCAUCAUAGGACGUUGUGCUGCCGAAGUGUGGACUAGCCAAGUGAAAGUUGUUUCCGAAAGUUCUUUUUUUAUUUCCAUCAGCGUUCCUUCAAAAUAUUGAAGUAGUUGAACACAAUGUCGGAUAAUAUUUUUCUUUGGAAUUUUAUUUCUCAGCCCAUGAGCUAAAUCUCGUAGGGUUAAGGUUACUUUUGAUGAAACCUUAAAUAUUUUUAUGGAUGCAGCAUAUAUCCAAUUUACUAAACUGUAUCAUUUGAUUGUUCUUAUUUCUUAAGUAAAAUGCAAAUGAUCUCUAAACAUAGAAGACUGUUCGCAUACUUAUAAACUGAUUCUAAUUCUAAAACGGUUAGAUUGGUUGGAUUAAAAUUAAAUGAAAUGAGCAAGUAUUCGAUGGACACUUGUAGUAGACUCUAUACAUAGAGUGACGAUCAUACAGAAGGAACCCAUGCAAGGUAUCUAAAAAGUCUUUAGACACAGGCAAGGUAACUUGAGGUUUUGCUCUCACGAGAGGCAGGCCAUUUUAGUACUCUUCUGUGCUUUAAAGUAGAUAAGAUUUUGCCAAGGAAUUAUUGAGAGUAAGGGUCGAUUUUGGAUAAUCAACCUUCCAAAUCCACAUCGUAUAUCCUUUAUUCCUUACCAUAGAAUAUUUGCCACAUCAUUAUUAGUUAUUUAUUUGUUCAUUUACAUAAUAUUCCCGUAGUAAUUCUCAUAAUUGUCAUUACAUUUCUACUCUUGGUUUGCCACAACAUUACUAGUUAUUUAUUAAUUCCACGUAUUGCUUACAUCAUUACUCUACUAAUUGCGACUGUAUAUUUAUCAUUGAGUUUGCCAUAGCAUUAAUCGUAUUUUAUUAUAAUAUCUUAACUAAUUUUGUGCCUCAAUCUGAUCCCCAUGGGAACGAUACUCACUCAUCACUUUAUUACUAGAUUCAACUGUAUACUUGCACAAAUCGUAUAUCAUUUCACACACGACAAUGUUCAAUUGAACCUUUUGAGUUAUAAACUCGAACAAACUCAAUUAUUAGCUUUAAUCAACCCACCAAGAAAGAAUCAUUGGCAAAUUGAAGGAUGAAGAAUGAAUUCCCAUGAAUCCUUAAAGAAAUUGAGAAGAAAACUACUUCUAAAAAUCACAAGAAACAAAUCUUGCACAAAGAAACUAACUCUCAGAGUUGGAAAUUUUAGUAAUAAACAAAAACAAUUGCGUCUCUGAUGAACAUGAAAGGGCCUUUACAUAGGCUAGAUAAGUCCAUCCAAAUAAAAUUGUCAAGUAUCUAGAAACUUUAAUUAAUGUAAGCAAGAAGUAAUUUUAAACUAAAAUAGUCAAAAUUUUUGUAAUGAUCUCGUCCAAAAAUUCUGCUCACAUAGUCAUCAUGAAAAUAGUCAUAAUUUGAUCUCUUGAACUCAAAAUCGAGUGAAUAAAAGUGCGUUUCAAAGUUAAGUGAUAGAUCUUAGAACUCUAUGAGACAUAUCAAUUGAAAAAUGUCUGGAUUCCAUCCAAAAAUUCACUGGAAGUUAACUAAUUUUUCAAACUUGAAAAUUGGUAGCUUCAGUGAAUGGAAUUUAAUAAAGUUCACCCCAUCUAUUCAUGUAUCAACUUGCAUUGUAAAAAGUAAAAAGAAAUAAUCUAUAGAGAAAAUAGUUGAAGAAUUUAUGACAAUUUAUUCAGAUCUCUUUUUCUUCUAGUAAUAUAUUGGGCCUAUAAUAUAUUUUUAUUGAUUUCGGUUAAUAAAUUAAUUCGGUUAAUUAGUCGAUUUCAAACUAAACUAAUUGUUAAACAAAAUCUUCAAAAACCUUUAACAAACUCCCAACCAAAUUAGAUUCGUUGAUCGACUGCUUAAUCAAAUUAAUUAGGUUUGAUAACUUAAUUCGUUAAAACCGAAAAAUGCACAUCCCUAUCAUCACCUUUGUUUUUAGGGAUUUUAAUCAUGUUGCUCCACCUGAUGCAGAAGUUGAGGUGGAACGAACUACUUGCUACCAAAAUUUAUGAAUUAUAGAGCUUGCUCCACCGCAGUGAAUCAAAUUCGGUGGAGUGGGAGACUUUUCUUCACUACUUUAUGCUCUAUGCUCCAAGUCUUCUAUUCUUCUUCCGAGACCUACAAUGGAAAAAUAAAAAAAUAAGAAACAAGUCUGAACUUACUUUGAAAAUUAGAAAUUUUCUACAAAAUUGAAAUAAAAUAUAAUUAAUCAAUAAAAACUAUAAAAUGCAAUAAAAACGAACCUAAAUACUAAAAUUACCUCCUAAAAUGCUAUGGAAACUAUACUAAAAUAACUCUAAAUAUGAUAGUUAUCAGAAGCGACCUGAAGAAGCCAAUCGAGUAGAUGAUUUCAACUAUUGCAAUAAUAUUGGUCGAUUAGCCAUCCUCUUGAGAAGAUCAUAGAGUUGAAAGAAAAAAAUCAUACAACUCCAUGAAGAAGAAAAAAUCAUGUUUGAAAAAGAAGUGGCAUUAUCAAACUUGACAUCAAUGCUUUGGUUUCUCAAUACAAUAUUAUGGACAGAUUCAUCAAAUUUGGCUCUUUCAAUCCUAUUACACUAGCUCUAAGUAGAAGUAAGAUGGUGAAUUUCAAAAGGAUUGGGGGCAAUCAUCUAUUUUUGGAAUAUCAGAAUGGUCAUGAUUGGACUCUAGCCACAUGUCUUCGGAACAUCAGAAUGGUCAUGAUUGGACUCUAGCCACAUGUCAAAGAAGCCAAUGAGAAGCAUCUCUCCUAGGUAUAAGCUUAUAUUGCCACAUUACUCCUAAGCACAAGCAUAAAUUGUUCAUCCAAAAUGAUGAUGCUUCUAAGCAUGAGCUUAAACUGUUCAUCUAAUGCUCCUAAGAAGGAGCCUAAACUAUUCAACCCAAAUGGUCAUGCUUUAAGCAAAUAUUAAACUAUUCUUAAAAAAUAAAUGAUGAUCCAAUGAAGCACAAGCUUAAUCUAUUCAUACGAAACAAAUGAUGACCUCCUAAGCAUGAAUUUAAAUUGUUCACACAUAAUAAAUGAUGAUACUCCUAAGCGCGAGCUUAAAUUGCAGUCCAAAAAAUAUUGAACUACGUUAUAACUUGAUCUUUUAAAAUUGAAGGUAAGUAGAUAGCCUGGUUUCAUUGCCAAGUUCAGUCUAUAUGAUAAAAAAAAUUUGAAGGUGAUCUUUGAAACAAAUUCAUCAAAGUAGGAAGCAAAUAAAAUUUCAAGACUUGUCCCCUUUCUACGCCCAACAAAAUUCAGAAUCCAUCAUUUGUUAUUACUGUAAUAAUAUCUCUAACUAAAUUAAUGAAAAGAUAAAUCAAGAAAUUAAAUCCUUUUAGAACUCUCUUAUAAAGAAACCAUAUUAAGGAUUACUUUAGAUCUAAUUAAUUAAAUUAAUAAGAUAUGAAUAAUAAUAAUAGAGUUUAAAUUCUUAUAGAACACUCAAAUGAAAAUGUUAAAUUCUACAAGAACUCUUAUAUGAAAGUGAUUGACACUAAAAAAAUGGGUCACCUCCAAGUUAUUCUACACAUUCACAAGUUCAAGAAGUUGAAAAAUUAUUUACAAAAAUAUUUGAAGAAACUAAAGAAGUAGAAGAAAUUCUAAUGAACAUCAUAUCAAUUGAGAGGAGGAUGUGAACAGAAGAGAAGAUUGAAAAGAGUUUUGUUUGUAAAGAAAUUCAAAACUUGUUAUAAAAUUUGACGCAAAAUUUUCAAGUCAAUUUUCAACUUGAAAUUUGUGUGUACUAUAUAUAUGGGAAAGAAUCCAUUUACAUUAUAUAAAACUAUUGUAUGUAUAAUACAAAAAUAUUUAAUACAUUAUCAAUAAAGUUUUUAAACUAUGCACCUGUGAUUAAAACCAAAAUAAUAAUAUUAAUAACAACCAAUCACUUUAUUUGACUAACUUUUCCUCACAAGUCUUUGGUAUGGAGACAAAUCAGUUUAAUCAGUCUUUGGAGCUAUUAACUGACAUUUCCACCAUUGAUUUGAAAAUCAUAACCCAUCAAUUCACUUUAAAUGAAACGAGAUCCUCAAGUGUUUGGUGUUAUAUUCUUAAAAUGUAUUUAGAUGAUUGUUUAUUAAUUUUAUUUCUUUAUAUUUAAAUCAAAUGUAAUAAAUUGUUGAAUUUAUAUACUUCUUAUUAUAACAAUAUAUGGACUAUCUUCCUACUUCUUUUUUUAAUUUAAUUUUUUGUAACUCUUCACAAUUUAUUUUGAAAAACAUUGAAAAAAAACUAAAUGAUUAAAUUAAGGCUCAACUUUUCACUAAUCUUAGUUUAUUUAGUCUAACUUUUCACAAUUUCAUAUACUCAUUUCAUGUUUCAUACCAACAAUUUUUCUUUUUGGUAAAAAGAAAAAAACAACUAUACUUUCUUUAAUCCCAAAAUUAAGGCUUUAUGAAUGAAAAUAAUAUUAUAUUAACUAUGAUAAUUAAGUUUUUAUUUUAAAUAUGAUUAAUUUUAUAUAUAAUAACUUUAAAUAUAAAUAUAUAUAUAUCUAUAAUUAAAUUUUAAAGAAAUUUAUUGUUAUUUUCUAAACAUAAAACAAAGAAAACUUUUUACCCAAAUUAUAAGUUUGUGGUUAGGCAGCCCACUUUGGGACAGGAUUCAGCUUACGUUUUUAAUCUUGGGCUUUAAAAAUAAUAAAAAUAUAAAAAUAAUGUUCGAUUAAUAUUUAUAAAUUUUAUAAAUUUAAAUUUAAUUAUAUUUUUUAUACAGUAAAAUCAACCAUUUAUAUGGGCUAAAUUGAGUUAAGUUCGGUUUGCAUCAAGCCUUAACUUUGACCAAAUCCAACGAAAAACACCUCUAACCAUAAUCUAGUAUUGUUUUUAUGAAUUGAAUUUUAACUUGUAAUUUUCAAUUUUAUACAAACUUUCUUUGCCUACGAUAAGGAAAUAACAUAUUUGUAACUUCUCCAAUCUGGCGUAAACAUUCAGUCUGAAUUCGGAAGAUUACAUCGGCCAUAAAGAUGGCCUAGCAGGGUUAUCAGAGUUUUUGAAAAUAGACAUCUUUAAAACGUUUGUUUAAUUCAGUAAAAAACUAAUUUAAUUUCCAAAUUAUUUAUUACUUGAAAUCUUAAUUACACUUUAAAAGAAGGAAGUGGUAACUAUUUAUUUUUAAUAAAAAUUAGGGUUCAUGUAUAAUUGAUUAAUAACCAUAAUUCGAAAACAUUAAAACUUAAAUUAAAUGUCAUGCAAAAUAAAACAAGCUUAAACCUAAAUCUCAUGCCACAGUUCAAAAUAAUUUAUUGUAGUCUUCAAAAAUAAAAUAAAUCAUAUAAUCAACCAAAAAUAAGUUUUGUAAUUUAGCAAUGUAUCGAGACCUUCUAGAUGUCAUGCCCGCGUCCUAACUUGGUUAUUUGUAAGUGUAACGACCCGAAUAAUUUAUCUCUAUUUCUGUAAAUAUUUGACGCAAAUACUUGUUUGCUUCAGUGGUUAAAUGUUUUGGGUGUGUUUGAGAGGUCUUGGGUUCAAGUCUCAUUUUUGUAAAAUUUUGUUAUUUUUAUGAUUCAAGCCUUAGCCUUGUUGAGUGGGCUUUUAUGAAAUUGUUUGCUACUUCAUAUUAGAAUGAGCUUGCUAGUUCAAGUGGUAAGGAGUUGGUGUGAAGGAGGUUCUGUGUGUGAAUCCCUGCACGAGCGUGGGUAUUAUUUUUUUGCUCAGUUAUAUGGUAGAGUUUCGGUGCUUUUGGGAUUAUAGGGUAGUUGGAUGUGAAUUAGUGGGGAGUUAGGAUAUUAGUGGGUUUUUAAUUAGAUUUUAUUUAAUUUUUAUUCUUUUUGUUUUUCCCAAUUUUUCUCUUAGCUUUUGACGUUCUGUUUCCCUUUUCUCCUCUGCUGAAUUUUUGCCGCUCCCUCUCAUUUUUGAUUUUUCCAAUUCGUCUCCUUUUUGUGCAAUGUUUGAUUGCAUUCGUUCGGUAAGUCUUGUAUUGUUACGAUCUUAUUGUUUGGUGGUUAAUGUUUUAAUGGGGGUUUUGUGUUUACUCUCGAUUAAGGGAAGGGCAAGAAGAGUUGGUACUCCUGCAAGAUUUGAGCGUUAAGGGUGUCUGUUCGUUGGCGGUAAGUUUUCAAAUUCUUUGUUGGUUAUUGUAAGGCUCCGUUUGUGGAAUGGUUUCGGAUUGAGUUUCGUAAGUGUGUAUCGAAUUUGGGCUUCUGGAUACUGUUUCUUAGGUUCGGUGGUCUCAGGGGUGCUUGUGCAUCAAAAUGAUAUCAGGUGUGUACCCGAAACGUAGAAAAUCGAGUUUCGAUGAAAGGUAAAAAACCUUAUUUUCGAUGCCACACGGGCGUGUGCAUGGCCGUGUGGUUGGCCGUGUGCAGGACACAGUCAUGUGUUCGACGAGGGUAGGGCCGUGCGCAAGACACGGCUGUGUGACGAUGUGGGUGUGGCCGUGUGGGCCACAUAGGCUAGGCCAAGUUGGGCUUGUGGGUUUUGGGCCACACGUGCAUGUGCCUUUUAAACAAGUCCGUGUGGACCACACGGGUAGGGCUAAUAUGGGCGUGUUGGCCACAUGGGCAUGUGGGCCGAAAAUUCUAAAAUUUUCCUUAAGGUCGCACAGGUCGUUCUAGUCGACUGUGGGCCUACCGUAGGGUCGGUAAGGGCUAACCAAACCCUAAAACUAUGUGAUCUGUUAGUUUGAUAUUUUGUUCUGAAUAUGAUACUGCUAUGCAUGUUUGAUUAGUUUGGUGUAUGUAUAUAUAUAUAUAUCUGAUAUCUAUGUAUGAGCAUGUGAGCAUGGUAACUCUAAUUAUCUAUAUCUGAUUGGGGUGGGAUUUGUAUAUGUGGAGGAAGUGUUCUGUAUGGCGGUCAUCGCUUAUAUUCUGGCAGCUUGGCUGCACAUUAUCUGACAUGUGUCGUAAUGGCACGAUAUGGUGUGUAGGGAUGGGUGGGUGUUUUUAACCCCACAUGAUGUGAUGGGAUAGUUGGAGUUGGUGUGUAGAGGAUGGAGUUAGGAUUUUGUAUUUCUGAUCUGAUCUGCAUAUCUGUUAUGUUAUCUGAAUCUGUAAAGGACUUAGGUCUGAAUCCGAAUCUAAAAUUGUAUCUGACUAUGUAUGAGUUUACUGCAUGUAUUGCAUGCAUUUUUUUAUUGGCUUACACACUAAGUUUACAAAAACUCACAUUUGUUUGUCUGUUAUGUUCAGGUAAUCCACAGAUUUAGGCGGGUCGGUGUGACGGAGGCUCAGUGGUGACCACCUGAUUGAGAACUAUUUUACUUAGUAAAUUAUGUUUUAUUUAUAAUUUCUAUUUCAUUUGAGAGUUUUUAAUUUUUGAGACUCUCAGUACUGCUGGUUUUUAUUUUGGUUUUGGAUGCGAUUUUAGACUAUUUUGUUGCGAUGCAUGAUGGAAAACACGAUUUUAUGAAAAAAAGUUAUUCUGAAAAUACGAACUGGAUUUCUAAAAUAUAACGGUUCAAAAACUUUCACUAAAAAUCACGUUUUGGUAAAUAAAUGAAUUAAAUAAUACUUUCAAAAAUGGUUAUAAAUAAUUAUGAACUAUGAAUCUUUAAUGAUUUGAUGAAACGACCUUAUUUUCAAAACCAUACCUUGUGACCACUCCGGAUUCAGCCAUAACGUCUGGGCUGGUUUGGGGUGUUACAGUAAGGAUGAAAAUUUAAGGGAAUGAGCUAUGACGCUUACUAUGAGUUCAUUCACAAUAAAUUCAACGCAAACGGUUGGUAGGACACAUUAAAUAAUAUCGCAUAAAAUAAUCACAAUUAGAUAAUAGUUCAGAAUGUCGGUUUUACAAUUUAACCACCAAUAUAAUCACAGUAUUCACAGUUGUAAUUUUAGAAUAUCAAAUUUCCACAUCAUUCACAAUAUUCAGAUAUAUAUAAAUAUAUCAUAACAGAAUUCUGGAUUUGUAUGCACAUGAUUUAGAAGAUGCCAUACAAUUUCAGGUUUUAACAGAAUAAAUCCUACCCCACGUUACAUACCAUAAUGGGAGUUCCCCUAAACUCCCUUCUGCAACACACUGGGUUAUGGAUAAACCACUACCGGUUUACAGAUAAUAACUAUCAUUUGGUUGUGGACACACAGCAAGUCUCCACAAUUGGAUUCUAGAUUUGGUUGUGGGUUCACAGCAAAAAAAAUCUACAAAUGAAGCCUGCUUUUGCCUGUAGAUUAUACAACAUAUACCCAUAGUUGGAAUCUGCCUUCGGCUAUGGAUGCACUGUAACACCUCAAACCUGACCUGGACGUUAUGACCGAAUCCUGAGGAAUUACUUUAACUCACUAGAAAACCCAAGAGUUUACUAUGAAAUCAUGUGGUUAAACUAGUGUUCACUUUGAUAAAUCGUUUUCCAGUUUUAGGGAAAAUUAUUGUUAAAACUGUUACUUUAUUACAAUAAAACAUUAAAGUGAUUAUAUCAUUUUGUAACGGAAUCUACUGAGCUAUAAGGUUAUGAAAAUCGUGGUUUAAUUUGCAACAAAUCAUUUUGUAAAUAGAAAUUUAAUACUACUUAAUUUGGAAAAGCAUGCUAAAACGAAAGCAAAGUCCAAACUAAUUUAUGAUUUAAAAUUCUAAAAAGUCCAAAUUAAACAUAAAGUCAAUUUAAACCAGUUUAUCGAACGUGUAACACCCCAAACCUAGCCUGGAUGUUAUGGCUAAAUCUGGAUGUGUUACGAAAAAAAAGUUUAUAAAACGACUUCCUUAUUAUUGGCAAAUCAUCGCAACCAUUAUUACUUAGUAUGCUCGAUUUGUUUGGAAAACUUAUUGAUAUACUUAUUUGAUUUAAAAUCAUUGCUCGCUUAUGCCUUUCUAUUAAACUGAAUGUUUUGUAGUGGAGUUUCUUUAAAACACCAUAUUUUGGCAAAUCAAUUUGUUUCUUGAAAAUCGUUAUUUCAAAAAAAUUGUCAUUUUUAGAAAAAACUAUUUUAUCAGUUGUUACGCUUAGAAACCAAAAUAAAAUCCAAAACCAAAAAUAGUCCCAAAAAGUCCAGAGAGUCCCGAAAUUACAAAACUCUCAAAACCAGAAAAGUUUGAACUAAUUUAAAAAGAAUGAAAUUUUACGGAAAUAUGGUUAACACUGAGCUUCCAUCACACCGACCCACCUAAAUCUGAGGGUUACUUGAAUAGAACAAACAAAUAGAGAGAGUUUUGAAACUCAGUGUGUAACGCGAAUAUAAACAAAAAUUCAGAAUCAAUCUCAUGCAGAACAUAUACAAAUGUAAACCAUUUAUAGAAUAAGAAUUAUACAGAUACAAAUAUGCAACAUCCUACCCUCAUCCUAUACACACCAAUUCUGACCAUCCCAUCACACCACGUGGGGUAUAAAACACCCACCCAGCCCUACACACCGUAUAGUGUUUAUACAACACUUUUCAAAAUAAUCGCAGCAGAGUUGCCAGUAUAUAGGUGAGAUAUCGCUUCACACAGAACACUUCCUCCUCAUAAUACAAAUCCCGCUCCAUAGCCAGAUACAGAUAGAAUAUCAGGUAAAACAAAUUAAUAGAUACCAGAGUUAACAUAUCACGCGUGAGCGUAUAACAGAUAUUACACAUGCUUAUACAUAACAGAACAAAUCAUACAUACCGUAUUCCAUAAUACUCAUAUAAAUGUUAUUUUUUAAAUUGUAACAAAUAUUAUUAUUAAGAUGUUUUUCUUUUUAUAUUUUUUUAUAAAAUAUAUUAAAAAACAAUUAGAAUAAUUUUAAGAGAAAAAACACUCAUAAACAGUAGAAUUUAAUCUAAAAAUAUCAAAGUUUUAAAGCCUCAACUUUAACAUUUCAACCAAAAUUCCAUUAGUAUAUAAAUAUUUUAUAAAUAUAGAUUUUAUAUAAAAAAAUUUUAUGUAAACUUUUUUUUAACCCACAUCACAAGUAUACCAUAUUUAGAGAUAUUCAUAGCUAGGCAGCCCACUUUGGGUCAAACUUGAGCUUAGGUUUCAUCUCAAGUUGGCCCAAUUUAACCUAUUUUACUAUUUAAAAAUAUAAAUAUAUGUUAUAUUGAUAUUUAUAUAUUUCUAUAAUUAAAUUUUAAAUAAAUUUAUUGUUAACUUUUAAACACAAAACAAAGAAAACUUUCACCCAAAUUAUAAGUUUGUGGUUAGACAGCCCACUUUCGGGGCAGGAUUCAGCUUACGUUUUUAAUCUUGGGAUUUAAGAAUAAUAAAAAAUAUAAAAAUAAUAUUGUAUUAAUAUUUAUAUAUUUUAUAAAUUUAAAUUUAAUUAUAUUUUUUAAACAGUCAAAUGAACCAUUUAUAUGGGCUAAUUAGAGUUAAGUUUGGUUUGAAUCAAGCCUUAACUUUGACCAAAUCCAACUAAAAACACGUCUAACAAUUAUCUAGUAUUGUUUUUAUGAAUUGAAUUUUAACUUGUAAUUUUCAAUUUUAUUACAAAAUUUCUUUGCGGACGAUAAGAAAAUAACAUAUUUGUAACUUCUUCAACCCGGCGUAAAGGUUAAGUCUGAAUUUGGAUUACAUCAGCCAUAAAGAUGGCCUAGCAGGAUUAUCGGAGUUUUUAAAAACAAACAUCUUUAAAACGUUUGUUUAAUUUAUAGAAAAGCUUAUUUAAUUUCCAAAUUAUUUAUUACUUGAAAUCUUAAUUACACUUUAAAAGUAGGAAGUGGUAACAAUUUAUUUUUAAUAAAAUUCGGGGUUCAUGUAUAAUUGAUUAAUAACCGUAAUUCGAAAACAUUAAAACUUAAAUUAAAUGUCAUGCAAAACAAAACAAGCUUAAAUCUAAAUCUCAUGCCGCAGUUCAAAAUUAUUUAUUGUAGUCUUAGAAAAUAAAAACAAUCAUAUAAUGAACCUAAAUUUUUUAUUUUACUUUAAUAAUGUGUCAAGGUCUUACAGAUGUCACGCCUGCGUUCAAUCUUGGUGGGUUAUCUGUAAGGAUGAAAAUUUAAGGGGGAGUGAGCUAUGACGCUUAGUGUGAGUUCAUUCACAAUAAAUUCAAUGCAAACGGUUGGUAAGACACAUUAAAUAACAUUGCAUAAAGUAAUCACAGUCAGAUAACAGUUUAGAAUGGCGAUUUUACAAUUUAACUACCAAUAUUAUCACAAUAUUCACAGCUGUAAUUUCAGAAUAUCAAAUUUCCACAUCAUUCACAAUACUAACAUAUAUAUAAAUAUAUCAUAACAGAAUUCCAGAUUUGUAUGCACAUGAUUUAGAAGAUGCCAUACAAUUUUGGGUUUUAACAGAAUAAAUCCUACCCCACAUUACAUAUCAUAAUGGGAGUUCCCCUAAACUCCCUUCUCCAACACACUAGGUUGUGGAUAAACCACUACUCGUCCACAGAUAAUAACUAUUAUUUGGCUGUGGACACACAACAAAUCCCCACAGUUGGAUUCUAGCUUUGGCUGUGGGUUCACAGCCAAAAGUCCUGCAAAUGAAGCCUGUUUUUGCAUGUAGAUUAUACAACCUAUACCCGCAGUUGGAAUCUGUCUUUGGCUAUGGAUGCACUAUAACACCCCAAACCCGACCUGGACGUUAUGGCUCAAUCUUGACGUAAUGCCCCAAAAUUUCUAAUUUCGUUAUUGUGAAAAUAUGACACAAAAUAUUUGUCUGCUUUAGUGGUUAUGUGUUCUGGGAGUGUUUAGGAGGUCCCAAGUUCACGCCUUCACAUGGGAAAAUUUUGGUAUUUUGAAUGAAUUAGGUAUUACUCUUAUUCAGUAGGCUUUUAUUUGAUUGUUGGGUAAAUUAUAUUAGAAUGGGCUUGCUGGUCUAGUGGUUAAAUGGUUUAUUAUUAUGGUGGAGGUCUUGUGUUCAAGUCCCUAUGUAGGCAAGGGUAUUAUUAUUAUUAUUAUUUGCUCAAAUUUCUGGAUAGAGUUGUGUAAUAGGGGGAUUCUGAGUAGUAGAUGUGUAGUGGGAAUUAGGGGAGAAGAUUAAGGAGUUUCAGGGGUUAUCGAGAUUUUAUUUUAUUUUUUCCCAUAACCGAAUUUUGACUUUCUUUUUCCAAAAAAAAUCUGCCAUCUAUUCUUCUCCCUCUCCUCUUGUCGAAAUUCUCUUAGUUUUUUCACCUUUCUCUUCUUUUUCUUCUUCUUGAUUUUUCCCUAAUCCAUUUAUUUUUCUUCAUUUUCGCACGCGGUUAGUUUUCGCUUAGUUUCGAUAAGUGUUUCUCUUCGUUUCUAUCAUGAAUCUCCUAGCGACUAAAGUGGUAACUUUUUUUCUCUGUGAUUUGGGUGUAGGGGAAGGCUCGAACUGUUGAAUUCAGUAUUCUCGUCUUAACAAUAGUUAAAUGGAGGGUUAUCGUUGGUGGUAAGUUGGGUUUCUGUUCAUUCUUAGUUGUCAAUUUGCUUGUAAAUCUGUUAAAUUGAUGUUGAGUAUCUUGAUUAUAGGCUUUGGAGUGCUUGGGGACUGUUUUAGCAUCAAACAAAACCAGAUGUGUACCCGAAACGCAAAAAAAAAGGGAUUCGAUCGAAAGCCGAAAUUGUUUGCUGUUUGGACAGUAGCAGUAGGCUAACUUUGAAAAAUCGCCAUAAAUUGUGGAAAUCGAAUUAGAGGAUGAAAAAAAUAUGAAAUUAAAUCUUAUUGAGUCUAGUUUCUCAUAGAAGAACGGUGUAAGUAAUGGAAUUUUAAAUCGUGAGAUAAUAAACUAUGUGAGACAAGGUUAGAAUAAAUUCGGGUUCCCUUGUUCUGACUUUGGAAAAUCAUCAAAAAUUGGAUAAAAAUAAUUAGGAAUUAAAAUUUACAUGUUUAAAUUAUUAAUUAGUCUUUUUUCAAUAGAAACAAAUGGGAACUUCAUCCAAAAUUUUUACUAAGAGAUAAUUAAUUUUUAGCAAUGAAGGGUCGAAGCUGUCAAACAGCAGAACAAGGGUAAGUUUGAAGAUUUUACCAUACUUAUUGGCUGAGCCAAAAAUUUAAAAAUUUUAUGGUAGAAAGGUAUUUGAGUCUAUUUUCAAAUACAUCAAGUGAAUUUUAAUUAGGAAUUCUUUAGCUCAAGAUAUAAAUAAUUUAGUUACAGUGAGUCAAGUAGAAAGCUUUGAAGGAACACAUAAGUAAAUUGUGAUAAGAUAUAUGAAUAUUUAGCUAGCACAGGUUACAUUGAAAAUGGAUCACGCAGCCAAGGCCAAUUUGGGCUGAGUGGGCCACAUGGGCAUGUGAGCCCAUUUUUCUGAAAAAUUCUGUAAGGUUGCACGGGUCGCCCAAGUCGACUAUGGACCUACUGUAGGGUCGGUAAGCUUUACUUAGACGCCUAUAUGUGUGAUCUAUCUGGCUGAUUUCUAUACCGAGCAUGACUUAUGAUAUUUGAAUGUAUGUACUUUUAAUUACAUAAUGGCAUGACAAAUUUUGUAUGUUGCAUUGCAUCGGAGUGGGUUGAUGAUAUUUGGAGGAAGUGUCUAAAAGGCUAUUAAGCCUGUUAUCUGGCAGCUCAGCUGUAACCUUCUGAUUAUGUGCGCAUUUCAGUACAACAUGGUGUGUAAGGAUGGGUGGGUUGAUUUAACCCCCACAUGGUGUGUAAGGUUGGACAAAGAUGUGCGUAGAGGCUGGUGGGUAGGAUUCUGAUUUCUGUAUCUACAUUAUGUAUCUGAUAUGGGCCAAGGCUCUAAUGUAUUUCUGAGACUGUAUCUAAACGGGCUAAGGCCCAAACUGAUUGUGUGAUGGGCCUAGGACCCAGACUGUAUCUAACUAAAUUCUGUUGAUUAUUUGUAUGCAUGAUUUCUAUGGGGAUUACACACUGAGUUUGCGAAAACUCACCCUUUCUCUAUUUAAUCUGUACAGGUAAUCCCCAGACUUGAUGGGUCAGUGCAACAAAGGAUUCGACAGUGGCCACACGUAAAUUAUGGAUUGUUUUCCGUUAAUACCUAGAAUUUAUUAAUUAUUUGGGGUUUUUGAUGUAUCUUCUGGACUAUGGACUGGUUGGCUAACAUACCUUUUUGCAUUGCAUCAUGUGCACGACAUAUUUGAAUAUUAUUGGUUUAUGCUACGUAGUGUAUUUUGUUGUAUUGAAUGGUAUCAAAAUUAAUGAUUGUCACUCGAAUGAAUUAUGACCUAUGCUCAUACACUGUUUGACAUCAAUUUGAUAAUGGCUAUGUAACGAUAUGAAAUUCCUAUAAUGGUUCUAUUUUCUUCUGUUAAAGCUAAUUAGUUUUACUGUAUUUGAUAUUUAUGUUUGUUUCAAUAAUUGUUCGACUCACGCUGAGCUUUUCAUAAGCGCACCCCUAAUAUGUUAAACUUUUCAGGUAAACCUCGAAAUUAAGACCAGACUUGGCAUUCGAAGAAUCACCUUAGACCUUGAAUUAUUUUUCUAAUAAGUAUUAAUCAAUCUCUAAUGGUUUUCGUUUGUAAUUUUUAAUUAUAUCUAGUCUGUGGCUUGAUAACUUUUCUUCUGGGAUUUUUGCAUGCAUGGAUUACUCAAGCAUAGUAACCGGAUAAUGCAUGAUAUUAGGCUUAAGUAAAAUUUGAUAUUGUUCCCUAGAUUCCGCUGCAUUGCAAAGGAUUUGUUUUUGAAAAACAAAUUGAUAAGGUAACUAAGUUUUCAAAAUGACUUGAAAAAUGGUUUUUCCCCUGCAUUAGUUUAACAUCGAAUUUUUUUUAAAGGAGAGCAACAAGCAAAUGAUUUUUCUAAAACAACACUAUCAACAAUAAAAUGAAUUCUAAGUAUACACAACCUAAUGAAUGAAUGCUUUUAAGCUAACUUAAAGUACAACUAUGGUUUUCUCUAAAAUGAGUUUAUUUAAAGUUUUCAUAAGUAAUGUAAGUUAGCUUAGCCAUUUCGGUGGCUAAUGUAGCCUUCUCAUUCUAGCCAUAACGUCUAGGCCAGGUUUGGGAGGUUACAGUAUUGAUAGGAACUGUGGUAUAAAUUUUAUUUUGGACAUUCUUAAAUUGUUAUUUGGACUAAACUUUAGAAACUAUGGAUUUUAUACUGAGCCUAAAUUUACGAAGUUCAUGCGUGGUUUUUACGAAAAUGAAACUCAUAUGAAAUUUCAAAACCGUGAUGUUUUUUUUAACGCUCCAAUUUGAAAUUGUACAAGAAAUGUCAAUUUGAAUUAUUUUUGAAUGUUUUUUAUGCCAAUUAAAUAUUGUUUCAAAACAUAGCUAAGUAUUAUUUAAUUUCGUAAAGAUGAAGCAAACUCCGAACAAUCUAAAACUUCAAGGACUAGUUUGCAAUUUUUUUUUCCUCAAUUGUCUCCGGUUUGAUUCAAUUCUUGAUCUAUACAAUUAUUCCAUUCAAUUCAUCAAUAUUAAACAUUUAUACAUUAUGUCAUGUCAUGAAUGAACCUAGAUAAAUUCAUUUUUUGAUACCCUUAAAGUUUUACAUUUAUUUCAAUUUAGUCUCUAAAAUCGAAAUAGUCAUAACUUUAAAUUCUGAACUUCGGUUUGAAAAUCGACCUCAAUUUCAUUAUAGACUCUCUACUAUCCAUUAUUAUCAAAAUUUCACAUCAAUUUCACAAUUUAUUUACUUUAGUUAUUAUGUACAAAAUUAACAACCAAACAUCACAAUUUAGUCAUUUUUCAUAAUUUAAGCUUAAAAUCUAUCAAUUUAAUACCAAUUUCUUCAAGAAAUCAACCAUGAUAACUAUAAAAAAAAAUUAACAGUUUUGCAAAUUGAUACAUAGGUCAUUUAAAUCAAACUUUCAUGACCUCAGAAACACAAAAAAAAAUUAUACGAAAAUGAUUUAGAAAUGCAUACCAAUUGAGGACCGAAAGCUUGAAGCUCAAAAUGGCUUUUUCCCUUGAGGUUUUAUGUUGAUUAAAUGAUGAAGAAGAAGAAAUAAAGAUGACAACUUGCACUAAGUCACCUUUAUAUACUUAGAUUAAAUCUUAAUUAAUCAAAUUUAAUUAAUUAAAUCUUAAUUAAUUAACCUUAAUCACAAUUAAAAAAAAUUAGUGGAUGUUAACAUCAUCCUACACUAUUUCAUAUAACCAAAUGAUCUAUUUACCAUUUUGAACCUUUAGCUAAUUAGAAAUCUAUAGCGAUAAGACUUUUAAAAUUUAGUUUCUGUAUCUUAAUUAUGCAAUUAAUAGACAAAGUUGAAGGUUUAAAAUUUAAUGUUCUAUUAUACCAACUCUGUAAAUAUUCAUAUUUAAUAUUUACAGACCCGAAUUACGAAAAUGAGAUUUUGAAAUUGUAUUUUCCAAUACCACUGAAAAUCGAACAAUUAUGUAACCUAUUUGCACCAAAGGGCCAAACAUGGCAAAUACUUGACAUGUAUGUCUUAAUAUCCUCAUCUAUUCUCUUCAAUAUAAUAACAUCCAAUAAUUGUUUCAUCCACUGUAACUAUCACGAAGAUUAGAUUUACCAAUACAGCCUACAAUUUGCAGAAGCGCGACAUUUUCAUUCUAGAGAAAGGUAUAAUUGAAACAAAAUUGAAAUAAAGAUUUCAAUACAGAAUCAACAGACAUUCCAGCUAAUACUUAUCAAUUAUUUGCAGCUUCAUUGCUCCAACUAAGAUGGUUUUUAGUCGAAUAUGGUAAAUGAAAUCAAUGAACACCAGCUACUUGAUGAACGAGUGAAUCAAAGUCCUGAUAUGUGCCGGCUUAUUGGUGAAAAAAUACAUGGGUUAGUUUUGCAGCAAUUCAUGAUCUUACAUUUUAUAACCUUUGCUUACAAUUAUUCACUGACUAAUCAUUCAAUGAAUGUAGGCCUCAAAUUUAGCCACUAAACUUUGUUCUUUAUUUUUAGAUACAUAUUAUUUGAUCACUUCAUACAGCCUAUUACUCAUAAUAACUUCCAAUUUCCCUUCUUUAGGUUAGUUGCAAAUGUACAGCUUUUUCUAGAAGAAGAAAAUUGUCAAGAGCCACCUGUUCAAGAGAGGCGCAAACAGAAUGUAACAAUACCUGACCUACUUACGGUACAGCCAAGUAAUCAUGUGUUUCUAUGCUAGAACAUUAAAUCAAUGACUACAAAUUUCAUGUCAUGGUUGUGUAUCAUUUAUGCCACUGAUGCUGCUAUUUUCUAUUCUAAUGCAUAAUAGGGAUUUAGUGUUUUUACCGUUAAAAUUGUGUCCUUUAAUUUUGGCUUUUUUCAAUUGUUGAUCAUGUCCACCUAUGCUUUAUUUUACUACUAUUGCUUUCUUCAAUGAUAGAUGAUUGAAUCGGUAGAAUUUUAUUAAUCCUCUACAUGUUUUAGCUUGAUAUGUGGAUCCUAAGCAUUCCUUGGAUUGUGCCCUCUUUGUUCAUUUAUUUUUUUUCCUGGAACCUUAUUACAUGUUGUAACACUCCAGUUUUUUGGAGACAUUGAAGACGACUAACUGCUGAAUUCUUUCUUCUGCAGAGGAACCAAUGGCAAGAGACUCUAAAACUCCUACUCUUUUUUAUACCUUCCUCACCUCUUUGUGACAUUAUAGCUGAAAAAUGAUGUAUGCUAAUACAUGAAAUGUUUCCUCUUGCCUUUCUUUUUGUAGUACUAAAACUACAAAUAGUGUCUGUAAAUCUCUUUUCCCGUAAUCUUAUCUUUUCCUCAUUGUAAUAGUUGGAAAACAGCUUUGUUGAAGACAAUGUCAACUACUGGGAUAAGUUACAAACACUGUUAUUGUUUAUUUUGUAGUCUAAAUUAUGAUAAUUUCUGCACAAAAUUCACAUAAAUGGUUACCCUCCCGAAGCGGAGCGAGGGUGAUGCUUACUAGUUAUUAAGAAAACAGGACCUUGUAGGGCUUAACUGUUGAAUCGAGAAAGAAAUUUCUUUUAAUGCCUUCAAUUUUUUUUAAAGCUGAUUUUUUUUUACAAAUUAAAGUUUUGAUUGUAUGUUAAUUGCUUGAGGGAAGGUCGGAUACUUUAUUAUCCCUAUUUUUAUUUGUUAUAUAUUUUAACCAUAAUGAUUUUUUUGGCCCUACAAUUUUACCAAAAAAAUCAUAUUAGCUUUCAUUUAAUUUUCGUCUCUUUUAACCCUUUAACUUGUAUUUUUUUUGUCAAAUCACCCCAAAAUGGAUCGAAAACUUUAACAUUUGUGAACUUUGAUUAUGUGACAUACACAUGAAUUGUCACAUGGAUGACAAGUCAACAUUUCUUUUAAAAAAAAACUUAAAAAAUAUUAAAUAAAAUAUUUUUGAUAUUUUUUAAUGAUUUUUAAAUUAAAAAAAGUUUUUAAAUAUUUUUUAAUUUUUAAAAAUUAAUUAGACGCAGGCAUGGAAAUUCACAUCUAUGUGUCACAGGCCGUGGAUUAAAGCCUGUGACCAUUGCGCAUAGAACACCCCAUAGAAUUUUGGCUUUUUAUUUGGUCAAUCAUGUCCACCUAUGCUUUAUUUUACUAUUAUUGCUUUCUUUAAUGAUAGAUGAUUGAAUCGGUAGAAUUUUAUUAAUCCUCUAUGUAAUAACCAAAUUUUGCCCGGGCCCAAUGCCAAACAAAUAAAACCCAAACCAAAUAAAUAAAAUAAGAGUCCAAAUUACAGUCCAUUAGAGCUCAAUUCAGACCAGCCCACUAUUCAAUCAGACUGGCCCAACACCCAAAUAACCUAACAACCCUAGCCCAACAAAAUCAGAAAAAUGAACAGCAAAAAAACCUUAGGUGCGCCGCACCUAGGUCUUUUGGCCUAACCGCCGCUGUUCGCCUAUCACCAGCCUCCUCGCUGCCACCGCCGCAUGCGCACCAGGCCUCCUCCAUGUGUGUCUGACACCUGCAAAGAGAGUCACACGCAACAGUAGAAACAAAAACAAAAAACAAAUAGCAAAACGACAAAAAAAAUAAUGAUUAAGGAGUUCGUAAUCCGACUAUAAAAGCCCUAAUCUGUGACUUGUAAUUUUUUGACACACAUUAGAAAAUAAAAACCAAAAAAAAAAAACUUUAAGGUGAUACUCAUUUCAUUUUAUUUUUGUUUUAUUUUAUUUUAUCAUUUUUAUCUUUUUAUUUCGAAAUAACAUAAAUAAAAAGGGGAGGCUGGGUUGCCGUUGCCAGAGCAUAUUUUGUGCUAAAGGGGGUUGCGCAGGAGGAAAAGAGGAAACUUUUCAGUUUCCCGCCGCCGUGAUGGCCGAACCUCUGACUGGCGCUUGGAGAAAGAAGGGGAGAGUUUGAGAGAAUUUUAGGUUUUUUGUUUAAGAAAAGUGAAAAAUGAAGAAUUCUGAAAAAAUUAAUAUUUAUAGCACCUAGAAAUGGCGUCGUUUUGGCCAGUUUCAUUUGGCCCCAAAAUGACACCGUUUAAUGGCCUAUACCGGCACAGUGACCCGACCCGGGGAAGGAUCGGAGUGUUUUGUGCUAUUGGGUAAUUUUCGCAUUUGGUCCCUCUUAUUUUGUAGUGUUUUCAAAUUAGAUUUUAUUUAUUUUAAAUUUCAACAUACAUUUUUGUUUUUGUUUCACUUAGAUCCUGAACAAUGCGCAGCGUUUUGGGGGCGAGGAAAUAUUUCCAAUAUGGCCCCAUGUAAUCUGCAUAUUACACUUUAACCCCUCGUCUUGUUUAUAAUUCUAUUCUUUUCUUGUUAAUUUAGAUUCAAUUGCGAUUUAAUCUUUUGUUAAAACAUUUGUUUUCUUUAUUAAUUUAUUAACUAUUUUAUUAUUAUUUUAGUGGUAUAUUCGGUCAUAUUUUCAUUAUCUUAUUAUAUAUUAUCAUUUUGAGUUUUACUUAUAUUAUUAUUAUAAUUUUAUAAUGUGUUAUUUUAUUAACUCAAUAUAACAUAUAUAUAUAUGUAUUUUUUUGUGGUUUUAUUUUUAUAAUAUAUUUUUUUAAAUCCAUUUUUAUGCACUUUAUAUUUAAGUAUUUAUACAAUAAUAUUCUUAUAAUAUUUUUAUACAUGUACAAUUUAUAUAUAAUUAUUUCUUAUACGUGUAUAUAUACAUAAUAAAUCAUCGAUUACAUGUUAUUAUAUUAUUUCCACUUAUUUCAUAUAUAAUUUAUUUCUUUUAAAAUACUCUAUUAUAUACUUCAUUUAUUUCAACCUUUUAUGUGUAUCAUUAUAGAUAUACUAUUAUAUGAAGUUUUUCAAUCCCUAUGCAUUACUUAUUUAAAUUAAUAUAUGUAUAUUAUUUUAUGUAUUUAGAUUUAUUUUGUAUAUAAUAUCUACUUUUAAAUUUAUUUGGAUACUAUUAUUUUAAGUGGAAUUUAUUUUUAACUAUAUUUUUUUAUUUAUUUCAAUUUUUCAUAUAUGUAUAUAUUAUUUAUUUUAAAUUUAUUUUAAUCAUAAUUUCCCUUCUUUCAUAUUUCUUAAGUUUAAAAAAAAAAACUUGUACAAUUUCAUGUGCGUCAAUUUGUUUGGUGCUUUGAUUGUUUUUUAAUUCAUUAGCCUUUGAAUGUUAGCAUAAUACAUUAUGUGAGAUUAUUGCUCUUAUACGUAUUAUAUUGCUUAUUUUUAUUUACUAAUUAUUCGUAGAUCAUUAGAAUACAUUUUGGUUUACAAAUUAUCGCUUUGUAUUGUACAUUAAUAUUCAAUUGUUUUUUUAUUCGUUCGAAAGAUUACGUUUAAUAUCAUUUAAGUAUCAAAAUCGAUUUAUUCAAAAACUUUCAAGAUAACGUAAUAUUCUGUAUUUGGGAUAUUCGAGAGAAUUGAGCCUUAAUGUAUUGGGUUCCAAUUUUCCUCGUUGAAUCUAGAUAAUCGAGAAUAAUCUUCAAUCAAAAUACAUACAUAAAAAGCUCAUUAUCGGGAAUUCGAUACAUUGUGUCCUAACGCAUUGGAUACGACAUGUUGUUUUCUCGAGAUGAGGAUUUUUCUAAAAAAAAUAAUAAAGGCAAUAUUCCGUAUUUGGGAAAUUUGAGAGAUCGUGCCCUAACUUACUGGGUUUCGAUUUUUCUCCUUUAACCCAAAUAAUCAAAUAUCCUUCUCAAAAUGCAUAGGUUUUAAAAGUCAAAAGAUAAACUUAAUUUUGAAGAUUAAGAAUGUUGCGCCCUAACUCACUGGGUGUGACAUUUUAUCUCUUUGAAAUAAGAGUGUCUUAUCAUUUAAUUCAAUUUAUUCAAGGUUAAAAGGAUCGUAUUUUAAAACCUUUUCAAAAUUUCAACACUAAGACAUUAAGUAAUCAACUAGGUACCAAUUUUUGGGCGUUACGAGGGUGCUAAUCCUUCCUUGUACGUAACCGACUCCCGAACCUAUUUUUUUGAAUUUCGUGGACCAAAAUCAUUAUUUUAAUAAAAUCAAACCAUUUAUUAAAAACAACCACUUUUCGAGGUGACCCGAUCACACUUCAUCGAAAAAGAUCGGUGGCGACUCCCAUAUUCAUUUUCAUUUUCAAAAUCCAAAUUGACCCUGUUUUAUCAAAAAAUGGUGUCAACACUGCACAUGUUUUAUCUUGACAUAUGGAUCCUAAGCAUUCCUUGGAUUUUGCCCUCUUUGUUCAUUUAUUUUUUCUUGGAACCUUAUUACAUGUUGUACCAUUCCAGUUUUUUGGAGACAUUGAAGACGACUAACUGCUGAAUUCUUUCUUCUGCAGAGGAACCAAUGGCAAGAGACUCUAAAAAUCCUACUCUUUUUUAUACCUUCCUCACCUCUUUGUGACAUUAUAGCUGAAAAAUGAUGUAUGCUAAUACAUGAAAUGUUUCCUUUUGCCUUUCUUUUUGUAGUACUAAGACUACAAAUAGUGUCUGCAAAACUCUUUAGAGAAAAACAAAUGUCUGUAAAUCUCUUUUCCCGUAAUCUUAUCUUUUCCUCAUUGUAAUAGUUGGAAAACAGUUUUGUUGAAGACAAUGUCAACUACUGGGAUAAGUUAUUGUAAGCAUCUUUUCUUUAAGUGUUUCAUAUUAAAAACAAACACUGUUAUUGUUUAUUUUGUAGUCUAAAUUAUGAUAAUUUCUGCACAAAAUUCACAUAAAUGGUUACCGUCCCGAAGCGGAGCGAGGGUGAUGCUUACUAGUUAUUAAGAAAACAGGACCUUGUAGGGCUUAACUGUUGAAUCAAGAAAGAAAUUUCUUUUAAUGCUUUCAGUUUUUUUAAAGCUGAUUUUUUUUACAAAUUAAAGUUUGGAUUGUAUGUUAAUUGCUUGAGGGAAGGUCGGAUGCUUUAUUAUCCCUAUUUUUAUUUGUUAUAUAUUUUAGCCAUAAUGAUUUUUUUGGCCCUACAACUUUACCAAAAAAAUCAUAUUAGCUUUCAUUUAAUUUUCGUCUCUUUUAACCCUUUAACUUAUAUUUUUUUGUCAAAUCACCCCAAAAUGGAUCGAAAACUUAACAUUUGUGAACUUUGAUUAUGUGGCAUACACAUGAAUUGUCACAUGGAUGACAAGUCAACAUUUAGUUUUUUUUUUAAAAAAAAAAACUUAAAAAAUAUUAAAUAAAAUAUUUUUGAUAUUUUUUAAUGAUUUUUAAAUUAAAAAAAGUUUUUUAAUAUUUUUUAAUUUUUAAAAAUUAAUUAAAUGCAAACAUGGAAAUUCACAUCUAUGUGUCACAGGCCGCGGAUUAAAGCCCGUGACCAUUGUGCAUAGAACACCCCAUAGAGGUCAACUUAUUAAACAAGGUUCAUUUGACCCGCAUGAACUGGCCCGACCCAUGGAACCCGUGGAGAAGCCCAUCUACUUGAAGCCUUGGUGGUCUAGUGAAAUAUAGUUUAAUUUUUUUUAAACAUAGGGUAAGGGAAGAAGAAUGCCUUAAAAUUAAUUUUUGUUAGAAAACUAAUAAGAAUGAGUUUGUUGGUUUAGUGUUAAGGCCUUAUCCUAUCCAUAGAUCCCAAGUUUGAAUCCCUUGGUGAGCAUUCAACCAAAAUAUUUUUAUUUCCUUGUUUUUACCACACUAAAAGUGACAAAUUUUAAAAUAACCCAGCCCAAAAACUAUUUUUUUUUAAUUUUAGUCCUUAAUUUAAAAUUUUCCCAAACCUACAUAAAUUUUUAAAACCUAUUCCAAUUAGGAAAAAUAAGUAUUAUAAAUAGACAAUUUCAAAACAAACUCUAGAAUUUCAUCUAGCAAAUUUUCAAGAAAACAUCCAUAAACACUUUCUUUUCCAAAUCAAACUUUCAAGCUAAAGAAAUCAGAAUCUUCAAAAUCAUCCCUCAAGUAGAUCUUCAAUCUUUUCUCCAGCACUAAGGUUUCUAAGUAUUCAAAAUAGGUGUGGGAACUAAACCUAAAUCUUUGUGUAUAAUUGAAUCUAAUAGCAAGUAGAGAACCAGUAUAGGCUAACCCUAGGAGAAACCCCCUGUAUGUGCAAUCAUGUAGGUGUGAGCCUAUAGAUGCAAAACCCAUUGUACAUGAAAACCCCAUGCAUGCAAACCCUUACGUGAAACCCCCCUUUCAUGCGAACCCUGUAUGAAUACCAUGUGAACCCUAGAUUAUAGUUGCGAACCCUAGGUUGUUAUGUGGAUACCCAUACUGUGAACCCAAGUGCACAAACAUAUAGGAAUAUUCAUGCGAGCCCCCUUGCAUGCGAACCCUAGUUAGUGUACAUACGGGUCUCAUAUUUACAUGCAAACCACUACUAGUGCGAGUCAAUUAUAUGAUAUCACAUACGAACCCUACUAUUACAUGCAAACCUUUAUACAUGUUAUAUUCGAACCUUUUUUUGUUAAAACUGGUGAGACUUGUCUAGUAUUACAUACGACCUAAUUUGCGAACUCAUAUGUUAAAAGUAUGUGAACCUAUCUAUGUUUGUUAUGCGAGCUCACAUGUUAGCAGUAUGUGAACCUAUAUAUAUCAGUUAUGCAAACUCACAUGUUAGCAGUAUACGAACCAUAAGUCUGUUAUGCAAACUCACACGUUGGCAGUAUGCGAACCCUAUAUACACCUUUAUGCAAACUCACACAUUAACAGUAUGCGAACCCUAUAUACGCCUUUAUGCAAGCUCACACGUUAGCAGUAUGCGAACCCUAUAUACGCCUUCAUGCAAACUCAUAUGAUUUGCAGCAUGCGAUCUCUAUAUUUAUGCGAACCCUUGUAAUAAAAAAUAUGCGAACCUUAACUUGCGAACCCUUGGCAGGAACCCUGCACUCGCAAAGCCUUCUUCCGGACCUGUACAUAUGCUAGAUAACCAAGCCUAUUAGUUUACAUUAAAUCACUGUACAUAUGAGACUGUUUGUUUACUUGCACAAGUUAUAUGUGUAUUUACUAUUCGAUACAAGAGUACCUAUCGACCUUUUGAUGAGAAUUCAGAGAUUAACGAUGAUAAUUCCAACAAUCGGUGUAAGAACGAGUUAAAUCGAGAGUUGAUGUAAUUUAAGGUAAUAAAGUUAAUUUUUCAGUAAUAAAUGUAAAAUUGUUAUGGAAAGAAACGAUGGGUAAAAAAAAAAAUGAGAGUUUUAAAGAAAAGAGAGGAAAACUUCAAUUUAGGGUUGAAGAGGAACUAAAAAUCUACGUGAAAUUAGGAAAAAAUAUAAAAUACCUAGGAUUAAGAAAUUUGAGGGGGUUGAAUGGUAAAAUACCCUUUUUUCUUAAAAAUGAAAAAAAUGGAAAUGGGUAUUAAGUUUGGCACGACUUGAAACUUGGAAGCAAAGGAAAAAAUUACAAAGGCCUUACCAUUUGGGUUGCUACCCACAUUUGGCAUAUUUUUACACUAUUUAAAAUAUAUCCUAGCUUAGUUUUGAUCAUAGGUUGUUGAAAAAAAAAAACAAGGGGUAAGAGUGUGGCUUCAACCUUAAUUCUCUAGUUAGUAUACUAAGCUCUGAACCAUUAAAAUUAAGGCUCAUGUCUUAGUCAAUUAAUUCAUCUAACUCUAUAUAUUUUGAGGUAUUACAUCUUGAAUUAGAAAAACCCAUAAAAUGCAUGUAGACUUGUAUUGCUCGGUACUUGGUACUAUAUAUGUAGACUUGUAUGUUGAUUAAGCUAGCUUAAUUAAGACCAAUGUGUUAGACUUGUCUAUGCAUUGAACAAUCUAGAAGAAAAUGAAGAAAAAGACUCUGAAAAUACUUGAAAACAGAUAAAACUCAUAUGUCAUCGACUAGUUAAACUAUGAUCACCCAUAAUAGACCUUGUAUUUGACUUUUUGUUGAGGGAGAAGUUUCGUGAGUGUUGUUUGUCAGGGAGUCAGUGUUGCCCUAAACAACUAAAGGUAUUGUCCCCAUGUCGAGAUUUUACCCCCAGCCUCUGCAAAAUAAUCAUGAAGAAUACGUGCGAAGGAAUUCAAACACCAACCAAUGCAUGUGUAGCCUUUACCUUCCCACUAUCUUUGGGAACUCAUAAGGAUAAAAUCCCAACAAGAGAAUUGUAUCAGAGGGGUCUGUCAACACAAUGAAUGAAAUUUCAUACUUUUUUUUUAAUGAAAGUAAAUAUCAUAUUUAGUUAGAGAAAAGCAACGAAAAAUCUAACAAUAAAAUCCUUAGCAAAAGAUUAAAACACAAUUGUACCAUAAAUUAAAUAAGAAAUUAAAAAAAUUCAAAUCUAACAAAGACAGUAACUUGAUUCCUCAAAGCUACCACAAACAGUAAUUCAUAGGAAGGCCUGCUGCUCAUUUAUAACACAAACUUCAUGGUGACGGAUACCAACAUACUAGAUACUAUGAUUAAAAUGCUAGAAUAGAUUAAAAAUGUUGAAUUAAUGAUAAAAUUAAGAGUGAAUUAACACAAAGUACUCAUCCUCUCUUUUUAAUGAAUCAACAUCUGCAAUUUCUAUCACUCCUUUAGACAGUGAACUUUCCAUCCAAUGCCUUAUAGUCACUUCUUCAGCAAAAUAAUUAUCAGUUGGCUUUUUCUUUGUGAAAGUUUCUAUAAGGACAAUCCCAUAACUAUAGACAUCACAUUUUCUAGAAACAAUUCCUGCUGAUCCAAAUUCUGCAUUUCAAGCAUAAUUAGAGCAUCAUUAAUCCUUAAUUAUUUCUAAAAUGUUUAUUCAAAUAUACACAUGAAACAAAAAUAUAAAAUGAAAAUCAAGAAAAUAAUCAUAAAAAGAAUUCACCUGGUGCCAUAUACCCGAUAGUUGCAAGAGUCAUGGUUUGCUUCACUACAUCACCUUCUCCCAAAAGGUUGGAAAAGCCAAAAUCUCCCACAUGUGCAACCAUGUCUUUAUCUAGUAAAAUAUUGCUUGGUUUGAAGUCAGAAUGAAUCAUAGGUGUUGGAUGUCCGUUGUGGAGAUGUUCUAUAGCUGUCGCAACAUCUAUCAUUAUGUCAACCCUUUGUAUGAUAUCAAGGAAACAGUUUUUACAAUGUAGCCAUUUCUCAAGAUUUCCAUUUGACAUGUAAUCAAGCACCAAGGCUUUUUUAAAAAUAAAAUAAAAUAAACUUGGUAUCCAAAAUGUUUUUGUGUUGACAUGGCAUUUUUAAAAAUAAAAUAAACUAGGUAUCCGUGUAACAAAAAUAAAAUUGUAAUAUAUAGGCCUAAUUUUAGUAAAGAAUGUUAAUGAUGUUAAGAAUUCUUUAAAUUUCACAUAAUCAUUUUUAUUAGAAUAAAGUAUUUAGACUAACUAAUUAUAUUAUAAAAAUUAAGAUACCAAAUUAUGUCAAAAUUAAAGUUAUAGAUUAAAUCUCAAUUUUAACAUUCUUAUAAUUUAAAAAAGUAGAAGAUUGGAAUUAAAUAAAUUUAUAAUCCUUAAUUGUAAAUUUGAUAAUUCCUAUUAAUCUAAAUUAUUACAAUAAUGUGCUUACUAUGCUUGGUUUUACUCAAUGAGUGAUAUUAAAUUAAUUAAAAAAUUAGAUAAAAAUCAAAUAUCUUAUUUCUAAUAAUAAUAUUAUUACUCCCUCACAAAACUAUAUUUCACUUGAAAGAAAUUCUAUUCCCUUCAAAAAAAAAUUACCAUCUUAAAACACUUCCAUCUUUUAAAAAAUCUUAAUGCACACUUUAAUCCUUGAAUUAUAUCACUUUUUCAACUUUAGUCUUAAAUUUUUUUUAUUGAUUUUAGUCCCUAAUAUUAUUAAACGUUUCCAAUUUAGUUCAUUGGACAAUAAAAAUUGAUUGUCGUUGGGAUAUCCAACCAAUCAUACACUACCAAAUAUUGUACGAUGAUAUCAUUAUGACAUCAUCAACAAAAAAACCUUAAAAAUCUUUAAAAAUGAAAAAAAUUAUUAUAAUUAUUUAAAAAUAGAAAAAAAAUAAAAUUGUAAAAAUAAAAAAUCUAUGUAAAAUAUAAAAAUUUACAUAAAAUUUAAAAAUAUAUUAGAUAUUUUAAUAUCUUUAAAAUUUUAUAAAUCACAUUUACUAGAGUUUGAACCUAUGAUUAUUGUCAACAAUUGUUUUAUGACUCAAUUAAUCAUAAUUUAUAAUUGGUAGAUCUUUUUAUGUGAUAAACUUGGAUAAUUUUUUUUUCAAAUUAUUUAAAUAAUGAAAAGUAAUAUUAUUUCAAAUAAAUAAUAAAUUAUAUAAUAUUUAUAAUUAUUCCAAAUAUUUUUUUUUACUAUCUUAAGAUAAAUUAUUUGUCUCUAGACCAAUAUCUUAAGAACUAUUGUCGUGUGUUUAACUAUUCUAAAGAACUUUGGUAUAAAAUAGAAAAAGCAUGUGCACAAUGGUAAAUAGGGAGUCGAGUCAAAUAAACUUGUUGCCAGUAACGCUGGUAAAGUACUAAAAAUUGAUGUAUUUUAAAAUAUUAAAAUUUUGAUAUAAAAAUUUAUUCAAAUUUUUAUUAUAAUAAUUUUAAAUAAUUUUUUAUAAAAAUUGAUUGUAUUACAAUAUACAAUUUCAAUAUCAAAUUUUUAAUAUUUUAAAUGUGAUUAGCGAAUGUAUACUUUAUUUCAAGUUACAUAAUUUUUACCAGUAUUUUAAAUUUUUUAUUUUUUUACAAUCUUUUAUUAUUUCUAAUAUUUUUUAUAUUUUUUACAAUAUUUAAAAAUUUAUAAUAACUUUUAAUAAUUUUAUUGUUUUUAGAAAUUAAAAGAAUUAACAAUUUUUUAUUUUUUAAAAAAAUUAUAAAUUUAUAAUGUAGUUAAUUUUAUUUAAGUUUAUUUGAAUUUUAUGAUAUUUUUAAAAAAUAUUUUUUUAUUUUUGCAAUCGUGACAUCAGCAUAUGACACGUGGUAAUUUAUGAUCAGAUGAAUUUUUAGUUUUUUUUUUAACGUCCAAAGGAUUAAGCUGAGAACACCUGGUAACGUUAGGGACUACACUAAGAGCAUUUGAUAAUAUUAGGUACUAAAGUGGGCCAAAAAAACAUUAAGGACCAAAGCAAAAAAAAUGCUAUACUUGAACUUUCAAAAUUAUCUUUCAUUUAGUUAGGAUUAAUAUUUAAUGAUUUACUUAAAAAAUAGAAAUUUAAAAAUUUGUAGUAUUGAGGUUAAAAAAUGAGUAAGAGGUGGUGGAUGGUUCAUACAAUGGUGAGGCACAAAGAACCAUUUUAAAAUAAGAGAAGGGAGGGGUGCUUAUUCUUGAGGUUAAGAAUGAGUAUUUAUAGGUGAGGUUAAUCAUCCUUGAUCAUUAGACCUUGACAAGUGUUUGAUGCCAGUCUUAUCGUGGUUGGCCACUAAGGGAAUGAUGGACCUCUAGGUAGUGAUGGAAUUGACAUGAAUUAGAUGAGAUUAGGAUGACAAUUUGGAUUUUGAAUUCGGAUAAUAUUGGAAUUAAAAUUUUGAAAUUACUAUCUGUUGCAUAUUUGAAGUGAAUGCGGAAAGAUAUUUCAGAAUUAUAUUAGUCGAAUCUACUUUACUUAUUCGAAUAGAUGUAGAUUGGAAUUUAGAUAUCUGAAUCAACUAGUCACGAAAUGUGUAUAGUUUUGAUUAUAUAUAAAAAAAAUUUGGUGGAUUCAAUUUUGAAUUUUCGUGGAUUUGGAUAUCCAAAACAUGAUUGAAAUUUUUAAAAUUACUCCUUUUCUGUUGAUUCAGAUAUUUGACGAAUAAUAGUACUUAACUUAAGCCAAAUUUAGACAGUAAUACUCGGAUAAUUUGUAUAUAAUAAAUAAAUUUUGAUUUUCAAGCAAAUAUGCAUAUUCUAAUUCAAAAAAUGUAGUUACUAACCUAUUGCCAUUCCUAGGCAAGAGUACCCUACGUGUGAUCCAUGCACAGAAGGAUCCAACAUCUUUCACUGACGAGGUAGAUUAGAAGCGUCACGUACCAGGCAUAUAUGUAUCAAUGAGGUCUAUAGCUGGCAAAGUGUAGCCCACAACUGAAAUCAUAGUUGACGAGGUAGUAGUUGGGCGACAUGAUGGUGACAAAAGCCACUCUGGUAAAAUAUUAAUAGCAAUCACCCUCCAAUUAAUGAGAAGUUAUAAAAUGACCUAAUUAAAUGGUAGCAUAGUUUACCAUAAGUGUCAUAUGUGUUGUAAGGCAUGAGCUCAAACCCUACCAAACUCAAAUGAUCAAAUUUCCUUGGUAGGUGGUCAUACGUCACGUACCGUUUGUCCCAACAAGGCGCUCCCACUCUGUUGAACCUGUCACCUCUUUAGGUAGCUUUAGGCACUUGAGAUCUUUACAAAGUCGAGAGGUAAAAUUAUUGGAAAAAAAAAACUCGGUUUGAAAAUAGUUUUCUUACACAGUAGAAAAAUAAAAUUUUGAAAAUCGACCUGGUUUGUGAUAUUUAUAACAAAAAAACCUUAACUGAAUUCAUACAUGUGUUUUUGGAUAAGUGGAUCCUUGAUGUUUUCAGGCUUUCAACCAAAUGAUCUUUUGCACUAUUCUCGUACCACGAACUGCUUCGAGUGUGGCCUCGAACCAAUUGAAUCAAAACACAAAACUAGAAAAGGUUUUCCUUUUUGGGUGAAAACCAAAAUUCUCUCUUCUUUAAUAGAAAUCAGUAAAAUUAUUAUUAUGAAAAAUAUGUUUAUAAGUUGAGAAUAAAUUCUCUCUAUUUUUCGACAGAAUAAAAAUCUCUCAAAAGUUGUGUAAAUAGCUCUACUGGUGCCAUUUAUUUAUAGGAAGAGAAAGUAGAACCCUUGUAGAGUUGUAAAAGUUUAUAUCCACUAGAAAAAUAAUAUCCUAGCCUAUCUAGGAUAUAGGGAGCAACAACCGUAGUUAAUGAUACUAGGGUUUUGUCAUCCCACCUCUUUAUAUGAGGGGUUUUAGGCCUCUCUCACAUCAGAUCCAAGUACAAGUACUUCUUAAAUAUAAAUUUGAAUUUGAUAUAUUGAUUACAUAUGAAUUUAUAUAUUGUGAGUAAAAUUUUUAUUUGAUAUAUUAAUAAUGUAUAAAUUUAUAUAUUGUUAAUACAUCAUAUGUUUAAAAAAUCUAAUAAUUAUAUAUUAUUUUCAAUAAUUUUUAAAUUUAUUAAUUGAUUUAUUGGUAUAUUAAUAUUAUUUAUUAGUAAUAUGUAAAUUUAUACCCUGUCAAUUUAUGAAAUAACAUUUAGUGAGUGGAAUAUAUAUAAAAGAAGAUAUUCUAAAUCUUUCUAAAUUCUUCCUUAAAAUAGAAAAAGAAAUAAAUUGUUGAUAUAGAUAUGUUGAUAAGAUUUUCAUGUAGGGCUUUUCUGUAAUUCAUGAUUUUGUUACAUGCAUAAAUUGUAAUUGUGAUAUUUUAUAUUUUAUUUAUAUAAAUCAUGUUAAAUUUGAUUUAAAUUCCUUUUUUAAUUAUUUAUUCUUUUAAGAAAUUUCAAGUAUUCAAUAAAUAUUAAUGUAUACUUUUUCUUAAAUUGAUAUAAUAGUGAUAUCAGAUUAGUUUAAAAUUUUGCGUGUAUGACAAGUACAAUUAUAUCGAUAGAUUCAAUAGUCGGAUUAUUCAAAUAUUACUCCUACAAAUAUAUAUAUGAAGAAGUAUAAACUGCUUUAAUUUUACAUUGGUAUAAGUAGAUCUCUCUCUUACAUCUGUUGUAUAUAUGAAAUUUUGAUUUUGAUUCAAACGUACUCAUUUAAAGAAAUAAAUACAUCAAUUUAUUUUUAUAUUGAAUAAGUAUAAUUAUUUGGAUAUGCUAUAUAUAGAUGUAAAAUGAUGGUAUAUAAAUAACGAUGUUAGAUGUUUGUAAAAAUUGAAUCAAAUCAAUAUUUCAUGUAUAAAAUUGCACAAUGGACCAAAGUUCAUGUACAAUUUUGAUCUUUAUAUCUGAAAUUUAUUAAUGCAAAUUAUUUUCCAAAAGAUCACAUUGAGUAAGAUUAAUUUAAAUUUCAAUAUUUAAAUUUUUUCUCAUAUAGAAAUAUAAUUUUUUUAAAAGAAGUGUAUACUAAUUGUUGAAAGAUUUCCGACUCUUUUGGAAAGUCUUCGAAGUGGCAUAUUUUGAAGAUGGUGGACCCUCAACACGUCCAAUAUUAUCAUUGGUUAAGGUUUUUUUUGGAUCUAGUGUCCUAAGUGUAGUACUUUUCAUCAAUAUACAGUUGUAAAUUUUUUUAACAAAUUGGUUAAUAAAACAAAUUUAUUGAUUAUAUUAAUAUACUUUAUAUAAUUGUCCUAACAUAGUUUUUGCACGCAAAGCAAAAUGGAAGUAAAUGUUGCUCAUUGGUUGCCUAAAUAUUUAAUUAAUACUAAGCGGUAUUAUGUGUAUAAAAAGACAGCUUGUAUUAGUAGACAAACCUAAACAUGUCCUUAGCAUAAUUGGAAAUUAGUAAAUUGAUUGAAAGACUAAUAUGUCGUCUAUCAAGUGUAUUUGGGGAGAUGCCUUGUCUUGGGCAUCGAAGCAGAUGACUCCCAAAAGGUAGAGACAUAGAUGUGACUGACUGGACUGGUAGUAAAUUGGAUAGCACACAAACAGAAUAGAUCCUGAAUUCGUUUAUGGACUUAUUCACUUGUGAUGUCCAUAGUGUGGCAUACAUAAAUCUUGAAUGGAUAGCGGAGUACGUAUGUGUGACUUUUACACUUUGAUGUAAGUAAAAACAUAAGUUCAAUUAGAUAAGGAACCAGAAUCUGGUACAUUUGGUUUACGACUUCUAUAGUAUGUAGCAUCAUUCAUAAUAGUGAAAUUCAUAGCGCAAAACAUGGGUAAAUGAUAUCCUCUCAUUGACAUUACAUGGUUAAUGAAAAGUAAACGUGGCCACGGGUUGUCCGUCUUUGUGAUGGAAACUUGAUCACUAAUUGAUAAUGAUUGAUUUUUCACGAAAGAAGAUGUAAUGGCUACCAUGAGAUAAAAUAUGAUAUAUUGGGAGAACAAAUAUUAUCCCAAAGAGAUCAAGGAUAUCCUAUGAGGGUAACACACUAAUGACAAGGUUAUUGGACGAGCAUUAAGUAGUUGCUUUCGUAAUGGUAUGUCGUUGGGGAUAUUUCAUUCACGACACUAUAGUGGAAUGACUUCAUCACUAAAUGAUUUUAUAAUUAAUAGGUGAAAAAAAUAGAAUUUAAAUAUAAAUCAUUUGAGCCUCAACUUUAUAUGUCUACUCGGUCCCCCAACUGUUAGUUCAUUGAAACCAAAAAUUAAUUGCACGUUUGAAUGGAAAUCAGCGAAAUGGAUAGAAAAAGAGAAAUGAGAAACAUUCAGGAAUGAUUAUGGUUUCCUCUAAAAUGGAGAAAUGGAAUAAUUUGAAAAUGAAUGUAGGUUUCCAAAAACGGAAAUAGAAAUGAAAAUGGAAACUUGCAAUUUUAUAUAUGAUUACUUAAAAAAUGAUGGAAGAAUGAGUUUAUAUUUUUGGACUAUUUUGAAGCUCGAAAAUGAAAAUAAAUCAUUCAGUCAUAGUGAACAUAUUGAGUUGUGUCAUAUUAAACGAAUUUUCUUGAAAUUUUAUUGGAGGUAAAAUUGCCAAAAUUUUACUGGGUAAAAUUGUCGUGAGAAAAUAAUUUAAUAUGUAAAUAUUAAAAUUUAUUUUGGAAAUAGAAAAAUUGAAUCGGGUUGGACCAUAUUACAAAGUACUAGAUCAAAAAGGCCCAGAAAGUACUCGUACUUGGACCCGAUGUGAGAGAGGCCCAAAACCCCUCAUGUAAGGUGGGACGGCAAAAACCUAUUAACUAGGGUUGUCGACCCUUAUAUCUUAGAUAGGCUAGGAUAUUAUUUUUCUAGCGGAAAUAAACUUUUACAACUCUACAUGGGUUCUACUUUCUUCUCCUAUAAAUAGAUGGCACCAAUAGAGCUAUUUAUACAACUUUUGAGAGAUUAUUAUUCUACCGAAAAGUAGAGAGAAUUUAUUCUCAACUUAUAAACAUAUUUUUUAGAAUAACAAUUUUACCGAUUUCUAUUAAAGAAGAGAGAAUUUUCGUUUUCACCCUAAAAGGAAAACCUUUUCUAGUUUUGUGUUUUGAUUCAAUUGGUUUGAGCCCACACUCGAAGCAGUUCGUGGUACGAGAAUAGCGCAGAAGAUCGUUUGGUUGAAAGCCUAAAAACAUCAAGGAUUCACCCAUCUAAAAACACAUGUAUGAAUUCGGUUAAGUUUUUUUUGCUACAAAUAUCACAAACUGAGUUGAUUUUCAAAAUUUUAACUUUUGAUGUGCAAGAAAACCAUUUUCAAACUGAGUUUUUUUUUUCAACAGUUUUAUCUCUCAACUUUGUAAAGAGCUCAAGUGCCUAAAUCUACCUAAAGAGGUGAUAGGUUCAAUAGAGUAGGAGUGCCUUGUUGGGACAAACGGUACGUGAUGCAUGACCACCUACCAAGGAAAUUUGAGCAUUUGAGUUUGGCAGGGUUUGAGCUCAUGCCUUACAACAGAUAUGACACUUAUGGACAACUGCUACCAUUUAAUUAGGUCACUUUAUAAAUUCUCAUUAAUUGGAGGGCGAUUGCUAUUAAUAUUUUUCCAGAGUGGCUUUUGUCACCAUCACCUCGGCCAACUACAACCUCGUCAACUAUGACUUCAGUUGAGGGCUACACUUUGCCAGCUAUAGACCUCAUCAAUACAUAUAUGCCUAGUACACGAUACUUCUAAUAUACCUCGUUAGUGAAAGAUGUUGGAUCCUUCUAUGCAUGGAUCAUACGUAGGGUACUCUUGCUUAGGAAUGGCAAUAGGUUAGUAUCUACAUUUCUUGAAUUAUUAGAAUUUGGAUAUGCAUAUUUGCUUAAAAAUCAAAAUUUGCUUAUUAUGUAUAAAUCAUCUGAGUAUUACUAUCUAAAUUUGGCUUAAUUUAAGUACUAUUAUCUGUCAAAUAUCUGAAUUCGCAAAAAAAGAGCAAUUUUAAAAUUUUCAAUCAUUUUUUGGAUAUCCAAAUUCACGAAAAUUCAAAAUUGAAUCCACCAAAUUUUUUUAUAUAUAAUCAAAAAUAUACACAUUUCGUGACUAGUUGAUUUAGAUAUUGAAAUUCCAAUCUACAUCUGCUAUUCGAAUAAGUAAUGUUGUAACACCUUAAAUAAUUUAAGUUUGUUUUUGUGAAAUUUAACACAAAAUGUGUACUUGCUUCAGUGGUUAAGUGUUCUAGGUGUGUGUGUGAGGUAUUGGGUUCAAUUCCCACUUUUGGCAAAACUUUGUUAUUUUAUAUCCAAGCCUAACUCUUAUUGAGUAGGCUUAUGUUAAAUUGUUUGUUAAUCCAUAUCAGAAUAAGCUUGUUGGUUUGAGUGGUAAGGAGUUGGUGUGUAGGAGGUCCUGUUUUUGAAUCCCUACGUGAGCGUAGGUAUUAAUUUUUUCUCGGUUGUCUGAUAGAGUUUGAGUGGUCUUGAAAGUCUGAGGUUGUUAAGGCUGGGUGUUAGUCUGAAGUUAGGAUAUUGUGGGGGGGAUUUUUAUGUUGAUUAUUAUUAUUUUAUUUUAUUCCUUUUUCAAAUUUUCCUCUCUCUUUCCAAAAUUUCCCUUUAAUGUUAUUCUUCAAGUUUUUUUUAUUGUCUCUGAUAUUUUUCCCCCUUUUCAUUAAAUCUUUGUUUUGUUCUUCUUUUUUGAUUAUGUUCGUCAACCUAUCAUUCGAUCGUGCCAUUGGAGUUGUCGGGUUAUCUAAUCGGUUGGUAAGUAAAACUUUGCUUCCCUUUAACUUUUGAUUUGGGAUUAUAGUGAUUUCAAUAUGUAGCAAUUGAUUAGUGGAACUUCGUGUUUAGGAGAAGAUUAUGGAGCAAUGAAUUGCACUCCAACAGUUUAGUGUGCAUUGAAGUGGUUUGUCAUCGACGGUAAGUCAGUUUCGUGUUGUUUCUUGUUGUCAAAUUCAUUAAUCAAACUACUAAAUCAAUGUUGGGUACUUUAAUUUUAGGAUUUGGAAGGCUCGGGAGUAUUUUUGCAUUAAAAUCGUAAUAGGUGUGUCCCCAAAACAUAGAAAGUCAGGUUUCGAUAAAAGUCAAAAAUGCAUUUUGUCGAUGCGACAAGGGCAUGUGCCUGGUCAUGUGGCUAGUCGUGUGUGAGACACGGCCGUGUAUUUGACGAGGGUGUGGCUGUGCGCAAGCCACGGUCAUGUGGUAGUGUAAGUGUCGCUAUGUAGGCCAUACGGGCUAGGCCAGUCUAGGUUUGUGGGCCUACAUAGGCAUGCCACACGGACGUGUAGGCCCAUACGGCCAUGUAGGCCCACAAUUUUGAGAUUUUCCCUUAGGUCGCACGGUUCGUUUCGAACGAUUGUGGACCUACCAUAGGGUCAGUAAGGGCUAAUCAAACCCUAAAUUAUGUGAAAUGAUAUUUUGAUAGUUCGCCUUGUGUAGGAUGUCGAUAUGUACAUCUGUUUUAUUUACGUAUAUAUAUGCUAUCUGUAUAUGAGCAUGUUAUGCAUGAUAUUACUGUAUCUGUUAUUUCUGUAUUAUGUAUUUGUAAAUGGGGUGGGUUUUGUAUAUGUAGAGAAAGUGAUCUGUACGAUAACACUUCCAUUAUAUUUUGACAGUUGACUGCAUAUUAUUUGUAAUGUGUCGUAUUGACACUAUAUGGUGUGUAGGGAUGGGUGGGUGCUUUUAACCCUAUAUGGUAUGAUGGGAUAGUCGAAGAUGUUGUGUAGAGGAUGGGGGUAGGAUUCUGUAUAUCUGUACUACUUAUCUGAUUUUGUUAUCUGUAUCUGGAAUGGAUAUAAGUCCGGAUCUUGAUCUGACUGUAUAUAAGACUUCUAUUUGUAUUGCAUUUCUAUUUUUGUUAGGUUACACAAUAAGUUUACGAAACCUCACAUCUGUUUGUCUGUUCUGUUCAGGUCUAUAGACUUAGGCGGAUCAGUGUGACGGAGCCUCACAGUAACCACGAGAUUGUAAACUAUUUAAUAUUACGGUUUUUAUUUAAUUUAAGGAUUCUUUCUGGAAGUUUGUAAUAAUUGGACUUUCUAGAAUAUUUGACUUUUAUUUCAGUUUUGGAGGUGUUUUAACUUUUAUGGCCACGUUUGACCAAAUUCACGGUUUUACUAAAAUAAAGGAUUUUCUGAAUACACGAAUUAGAUUUCCAAGAUUCAAUGCUUUUUGAAAACUUCCGCUAUAGAUUAUGUUUUGGAAAAUGAAUGAAUUAAAUAACGCUUCUAGUAACAGAUAGUACACUUGGGGUGAUUUAUUGAACGACUAAACAAAGCUUUAUUAAAAGAUCACUAUUUUAAAAACCCUUCCAUGUAACACUCUUAGAUUAGGCCACAACGUCUAGGCCAGGAUUAGGGUGUUACAUUUAAUGGUAUCAGAGUUAGGUUACAAAACUCGAGCUGUGAAUUUUGGGUUUCAAAAUUAUGUUUUGAAAAAGAACAGGUUUUCAAAUAAUUUGGAUCAUUUUGAAUAAGUAUGUGGUACACUGAGUCUCCGGCAUUGAUCCUAUAAGUACUUUUGAACUUAGAUAAAACUUUCUGAAAACACUAUAGUUAGUACUUUCUGAAACUGUACUGAGUUAGUUAAAAAAUAAAAACUUUUGAAAUAUGUUCGAACUUCUGAUAAUUUGAGCAUGAAAUAUAUGUUAAUAAACAUUGGAGCUGAUGCAUAAAAUUUUAUAAUGUAGAUAAAUUUGAAAAUAUACGAUGAGCGCUUAUGGAACUUGCGGUCAUGGUAUUCGUGGGCUCAGUGGGAGCCGUAAGGGGCUGGAGCUGAGUCUUUUUCUCUGGGCAGUAUGCCAAACUUAGAUAUGAGUAAGCCACCAGUGUCACUUGCUACUGAGACAAGGUCUCAAAGCCACUUUGGUGGGGACGACGCACUAUCCCAAGCCAUGUUGAGGGUGUUGGAGAGGGUCAUUGGACCCCAUUCUGGAUCUGUGGGCCGUAGGACGGUAACUGAACGACUCUGGUCCAAUAGAGCUGAGUUGUUUAGGGGUGUCAUUGAAGUCGCCCCUAUUGUGGUCGAGUAUUGGUUGGAGGGCACAAAGAGGAUUAUGAACGACAUCGAUUGUACUCUUAAGUAGAAAUUUAAUGGUGCAGCCUCUCUACUUCGCGAUGAGGCAUAUCAGUGAUGGUUGUCGGUUGAGGAGGGUACUCAACGGGACUGUCUGAACUGGGAUUAUUUUAAGACUACCUUUCAGGGGAAGUAUGUGGGUGCAAGCUAUCUUGAUACUUGUAGGCGUGGGUUCAUGAAUCUCACGCAAGGUGAUAAAUCUGUGGCUAAGUAUGAGGCCGAGUUUCUAAGGUUAAGCCGCUACGCUUAAGGCAUGGUGGUGACUAAAUAUGAGAAAUUCAUCUAUUUUAAGGAUAGCUUGAGGUAUAAUCUGAGGGUAUUGAUUGCUCCACAGAGGGAAUGAGAGUUUGAGUUCUUGUGGAUAAGGUGAAGAUCGCCGAGGAGAUUAAGUGCGUGGAGCGCUAAAAUAGGGAUCGUGAGUGAGGCAAGAAUAAGAGGGAUUCAGAGCCCUCUAGUUCUGUUUAGAGGGCUAUUAGAGUAGGGGUUCCUAUUACUUCUAAUAGGAUUCAGCCACGUGAUGAUUGUGGUAGGCACCAUCCGGGUGAGUGUUAGAGGAGGUUGGGGGCUUGUUUGAGGUGUUGGUCUUUGGAGCACCACAUUAGAGAAUGUUCACUCCAUGCGGAUUAGAUGCAAGCUGUAGGAUCAAGUUUUAUACAACCUUAGAGGGCAGUUCAGCAGCCAUCUAAGGGUCGUGGUCCUACUAGGGGUGGUAAUGGUAUGGGUCGAGGACAUAGAAUAUCGGGAAAAGGUGUUAGUUAGAUUGAAUCCUAAAUUAGAGUUAAGUUUGGUUUGAAUCAAGCCUUAACUUUGACCAAAUCCAACUAAAAACACGUCUAACAAUUAUCUAGUAUUGUUUUUAUGAAUUGAAUUUUAACUUGUAAUUUUCAAUUUUAUUACAAAAUUUCUUUGCGGACGAUAAGAAAAUAACAUAUUUGUAACUUCUUCAACCCGGCGUAAAGGUUAAGUCUGAAUUUGGAUUACAUCAGCCAUAAAGAUGGCCUAGCAGGAUUAUCGGAGUUUUUAAAAACAAACAUCUUUAAAACGUUUGUUUAAUUUAUAGAAAAGCUUAUUUAAUUUCCAAAUUAUUUAUUACUUGAAAUCUUAAUUACACUUUAAAAGUAGGAAGUGGUAACUAUUUAUUUUUAAUAAAAUUCGGGGUUCAUGUAUAAUUGAUUAAUAACCGUAAUUCGAAAACAUUAAAACUUAAAUUAAAUGUCAUGCAAAACAAAACAAGCUUAAAUCUAAAUCUCAUGCCGCAGUUCAAAAUUAUUUAUUGUAGUCUUAGAAAAUAAAAACAAUCAUAUAAUGAACCUAAAUUUUUUAUUUUACUUUAAUAAUGUGUCAAGGUCUUACAGAUGUCACGCCUGCGUUCAAUCUUGGUGGGUUAUCUGUAAGGAUGAAAAUUUAAGGGGGAGUGAGCUAUGACGCUUAGUGUGAGUUCAUUCACAAUAAAUUCAAUGCAAACGGUUGGUAAGGCACAUUAAAUAACAUCGCAUAAAGUAAUCACAGUCAGAUAACAGUUUAGAAUGGCGAUUUUACAAUUUAACUACCAAUAUUAUCACAAUAUUCACAGCUGUAAUUUCAGAAUAUCAAAUUUCCACAUCAUUCACAAUACUAACAUAUAUAUAAAUAUAUCAUAAUAGAAUUCCAGAUUUGUAUGCACAUGAUUUAGAAGAUGCCAUACAAUUUUGGGUUUUAACAGAAUAAAUCCUACCCCACGUUACAUAUCAUAAUGGGAGUUCCCCUAAACUCCCUUCUCCAACACACUAGGUUGUGGAUAAACCACUACUCGUCCACAGAUAAUAACUAUCAUUUGGCUGUGGACACACAACAAAUCCCCACAGUUGGAUUCUAGCUUUGGCUGUGGGUUCACAGCCAAGAGUCCUGCAAAUGAAGCCUGUUUUUGCAUGUAGAUUAUACAACCUAUACCCGCAGUUGGAAUCUGUCUUUGGCUAUGGAUGCACUGUAACACCCCAAACCCGACCUGGACGUUAUGGCUCAAUCUUGACGUAAUGCCCCAAAAUUUCUAAUUUCGUUAUUGUGAAAAUAUGACACAAAAUAUUUGUCUGCUUUAGUGGUUAUGUGUUCUGGGAGUGUUUAGGAGGUCCCAAGUUCACGCCUUCACAUGGGAAAAUUUUGGUAUUUUGAAUGAAUUAGGUAUUACUCUUAUUCAGUAGGCUUUUAUUUGAUUGUUGGGUAAAUUAUAUUAGAAUGGGCUUGCUGGUCUAGUGGUUAAAUGGUUUAUUAUUAUGGUGGAGGUCUUGUGUUCAAGUCCCUAUGUAGGCAAGGGUAUUAUUAUUAUUAUUUGCUCAAAUUUCUGGAUAGAGUUGUGUAAUAGGGGGAUUCUGAGUAGUAGAUGUGUAGUGGGAAUUAGGGGAGAAGAUUAAGGAGUUUCAGGGGUUAUCGAGAUUUUAUUUUAUUUUUUCCCAUAACCGAAUUUUGACUUUCUUUUUCCAAAAAAAAUCUGCCAUCUAUUCUUCUCCCUCUCCUCUUGUUGAAAUUCUCUUAGUUUUUUCACCUUUCUCUUCUUUUUCUUCUUCUUGAUUUUUCCCUAAUCCAUUUAUUUUUCUUCAUUUUCGCACGCGGUUAGUUUUCGCUUAGUUUCGGUAAGUGUUUCUCUUCGUUUCUAUCAUGAAUCUCCUAGCGACUAAAGUGGUAACUUUUUUCUCUGUGAUUUGGGCGUAGGGGAAGGCUCGAACUGUUGAAUUCAGUAUUCUCGUCUUAACAAUAGUUAAAUGGAGGGUUAUUGUUGGUGGUAAGUUGGGUUUCUGUUCAUUCUUAGUUGUCAAUUUGCUUGUAAAUCUGUUAAAUUGAUGUUGAGUAUCUUGAUUAUAGGCUUUGGAGUGCUUGGGGACUGUUUUAGCAUCAAACAAAACCAGGUGUGUACCCGGGACGCAAAAAAAAGGGAUUCGAUCGAAAGCCGAAAUUGUUUGCUGUUUGGACAGUAGCAGUAGGCUAACUUUGAAAAAUCGCCAUAAAUUGUGGAAAUCGAAAUAGAGGAUGAAAAAAAUAUGAAAUUAAAUCUUAUUGAGUCUAGUUUCUCAUAGAAGAACGGUGUAAGUAAUGGAAUUUUAAAUCAUGAGAUAUAAUAAACUAUGUGAGACAAGGUCAGAAUAAAUUCGGGUUCCCUUGUUCUGACUUUGGAAAAUCAUCAAAAAUUGGAUAAAAAUAAUUAGGAAUUAAAAUUUACAUGUUUAAAUUAUUAAUUAGUCUUUUUUCAAUAGAAACAAAUGGGAACUUCAUCCAAAAUUUUUACUAAGAGAUAAUUAAUUUUUAGCAAUGAAGGGUCGAAGCUGUCAAACAGCAGAACAAGGGUAAGUUUGAAGAUUUUACCAUACUUAUUGGCUGAGCCAAAAAUUCUAAAAAUUUUAUGGUAGAAAGGUAUUUGAGUCUAUUUUCAAAUACAUCAAGUGAAUUUUAAUUAGGAAUUCUUUAGCUCAAGAUAUAAAUAAUUUAGUUACAGUGAGUCAAGUAGAAAGCUUUGAAGGAACACAUAAGUAAAUUGUGAUAACAUAUAUGAAUAUUUAGCUAGCACAGGUUACAUUGAAAAUGGAUCACGUAGCCAAGGCCAAUUUGGGCUGAGUGGGCCACAUGGGCAUGUGAGCCCAUUUUUCUAAAAAAUUCUGUAAGGUUGCACGGGUCGCCCAAGUCGACUAUGGACCUACUGUAGGGUCGGUAAGCUUUACUUAGACGCCUAUAUGUGUGAUCUAUCUGGCUGAUUUCUAUACCGAGCAUGACUUAUGAUAUUUGAAUGUAUGUACUUUUAAUUACAUAAUGGCAUGACAAAUUUUGUAUGUUGCAUUGCAUCGGAGUGGGUUGAUGAUAUUUGGAGGAAGUGUCUAAAAGGCUAUUAAGCCUGUUAUCUGGCAGCUCAGCUGCAACCUUCUGAUUAUGUGCGCAUUUCAGUACAACAUGGUGUGUAAGGAUGGGUGGGUUGAUCUAACCCCCACAUGGUGUGUAAGGUUGGACAAAGAUGUGCGUAGAGGCUGGUGGGUAGGAUUCUGAUUUACUGUAUCUACAUUAUGUAUCUGAUAUGGGCCAAGGCUCUAAUGUAUUUCUGAGACUGUAUCUAAACGGGCUAAGGCCCAAACUGAUUGUGUGAUGGGCCUAGGACCCAGACUGUAUCUAACUAAAUUCUGUUGAUUAUUUGUAUGCAUGAUUUCUAUGGGAAUUACACACUGAGUUUACGAAAACUCACCCUUUCUCUAUUUAAUCUGUACAGGUAAUCCCCAGACUUGAUGGGUCAGUGCAACAAAGGAUUCGACAGUGGCCACACGUAAAUUAUGGAUUGUUUUCCGUUAAUACCUAGAAUUUAUUAAUUAUUUGGGGUUUUUGAUGUAUCUUCUGGACUAUGGACUGGUUGGCUAACAUACCUUUUUGCAUUGCAUCAUGUGCACGACAUAUUCGAAUAUUAUUGGUUUAUGCUACGUAGUGUAUUUUGUUGUAUUGAAUGGUAUCAAAAUUAAUGAUUGUCACUCGAAUGAAUUAUGACCUAUGCUCAUACACUGUUUGACAUCAAUUUGAUAAUGGCUAUGUAACGAUAUGAAAUUCCUAUAAUGGUUCUAUUUUCUUCUGUUAAAGCUAAUUAGUUUUACUGUAUUUGAUAUUUAUGUUUGUUUCAAUAAUUGUUCGACUCAUGCUGAGCUUUUCAUAAGCGCACCCCUAAUAUGUUAAACUUUUCAGGUAAACCUCGAAAUUAAGACCAGACUUGGCAUUCGAAGAAUCACCUUAGACCUUGAAUUAUUUUUCUAAUAAGUAUUAAUCAAUCUCUAAUGGUUUUCGUUUGUAAUUUUUAAUUAUAUCUAGUCUGUGGCUUGAUAACUUUUCUUCUGGGAUUUUUGCAUGCAUGGAUUACUCAAGCAUAAUAACCGGAUAAUGCAUGAUAUUAGGCUUAAGUAAAAUUUGAUAUUGUUCCCUAGAUUCCGCUGCAUUGCAAAGGAUUUGUUUUUGAAAAACAAAUUGAUAAGGUAACUAAGUUUUCAAAAUGACUUGAAAAAUGGUUUUUCCCCUGCAUUAGUUUAACAUCGAAUUUUUUUUAAAGGAGAGCAACAAGUAAAUGAUUUUUCUAAAACAACACUAUCAACAAUAAAAUGAAUUCUAAGUAUACACAACCUAAUGAAUGAAUGCUUUUAAGCUAACUUAAAGUACAACUAUGGUUUUCUCUAAAAUGAGUUUAUUUAAAGUUUUCAUAAGUAAUGUAAGUUAGCUUAGCCAUUUCGGUGGCUAAUGUAGCCUUCUCAUUCUAGCCAUAACGUCUAGGCCAGGUUUGGGAGGUUACAGUAUUGAUAGGAACUGUGGUAUAAAUUUUAUUUUGGACAUUCUUAAAUUGUUAUUUGGACUAAACUUUAGAAACUAUGGAUUUUAUACUGAGCCUAAAUUUACGAAGUUCAUGCGUGGUUUUUACGAAAAUGAAACUCAUAUGAAAUUUCAAAACCGUGAUGUUUUUAUUAACGCUCCAAUUUGAAAUUGUACAAGAAAUGUCAAUUUGAAUUAUUUUUGAAUGUUUUUUAUGCCAAUUAAAUAUUGUUUCAAAACAUAGCUAAGUAUUAUUUAAUUUCGUAAAGAUGAAGCAAACUCCGAACAAUCUAAAACUUCAAGGACUAGUUUGCAAUUUUUGUUUUUCCUCAAUUGUCUCCGGUUUGAUUCAAUUCUUGAUCUAUACAAUUAUUCCAUUCAAUUCAUCAAUAUUAAACAUUUAUACAUUAUGUCAUGUCAUGAAUGAACCUAGAUAAAUUCAUUUUUUGAUACCCUUAAAGUUUUACAUUUAUUUCAAUUUAGUCUCUAAAAUCGAAAUAGUCAUAACUUUAAAUUCUGAACUUCGGUUUGAAAAUCGACCUCAAUUUCAUUAUAGACUCUCUACUAUCCAUUAUUAUCAAAAUUUCACAUCAAUUUCACAAUUUAUUUACUUUAGUUAUUAUGUAAAAAAUUAACAACCAAACAUCACAAUUUAGUCAUUUUUCAUAAUUUAAGCUUAAAAUCUAUCAAUUUAAUACCAAUUUCUUCAAGAAAUCAACCAUGAUAACUAUAAAAAAAAUUAACAGUUUUGCAAAUUGAUACAUAGGUCAUUUAAAUCAAACUUUCAUGACCUCAGAAACACAAAAAAAAAUUAUACGAAAAUGAUUUAGAAAUGCAUACCAAUUGAGGACCGAAAGCUUGAAGCUCAAAAUGGCUUUUUCCCUUGAGGUUUUAUGUUGAUUAAAUGAUGAAGAAGAAGAAAUAAAGAUGACAACUUGCACUAAGUCACCUUUAUAUACUUAGAUUAAAUCUUAAUUAAUCAAAUUUAAUUAAUUAAAUCUUAAUUAAUUAACCUUAAUCACAAUUAAAAAAAAUUAGUAGAUGUUAACAUCAUCCUACACUAUUUGAUAUAACCAAAUGAUCUAUUUACCAUUUUGAACCUUUAGCUAAUUAGAAAUCUAUAGCGAUAAGACUUUUAAAAUUUAGUUUCUGUAUCUUAAUUAUGCAAUUAAUAGACAAAGUUGAAGGUUUAAAAUUUAAUGUUCUAUUAUACCAACUCUGUAAAUAUUCAUAUUUAAUAUUUACAGACCCGAAUUACGAAAAUGAGAUUUUGAAAUUGUAUUUUCCAAUACCACUGAAAAUCGAACAAUUACGUAACCUAUUUGCACCAAAGGGCCAAACAUGGCAAAUACUUGACAUGUAUGUCUUAAUAUCCUCAUCUAUUCUCUUCAAUAUAAUAACAUCCAAUAAUUGUUUCAUCCACUGUAACUAUCACGAAGAUUAGAUUUACCAAUACAGCCUACAAUUUGCAGAAGCGCGACAUUUUCAUUCUAGAGAAAGGUAUAAUUGAAACAAAAUUGAAAUAAAGAUUUCAAUACAGAAUCAACAGACAUUCCAGCUAAUACUUAUCAAUUAUUUGCAGCUUCAUUGCUCCAACUAAGAUGGUUUUUAGUCGAAUAUGGUAAAUGAAAUCAAUGAACACCAGCUACUUGAUGAACGAGUGAAUCAAAGUCCUGAUAUGUGCCGGCUUAUUGGUGAAAAAAUACAUGGGUUAGUUUUGCAGCAAUUCAUGAUCUUACAUUUUAUAACCUUUGCUUACAAUUAUUCACUGACUAAUCAUUCAAUGAAUGUAGGCCUCAAAUUUAGCCACUAAACUUUAUUCUUUAUUUUUAGAUACAUAUUAUUUGAUCACUUCAUACAGCCUAUUACUCAUAAUAACUUCCAAUUUCCCUUCUUUAGGUUAGUUGCAAAUGUACAGCUUUUUCUAGAAGAAGAAAAUUGUCAAGAGCCACCUGUUCAAGAGAGGCGCAAACAGAAUGUAACAAUACCUGACCUACUUACGGUACAGCCAAGUAAUCAUGUGUUUCUAUGCUAGAACAUUAAAUCAAUGACUACAAAUUUCAUGUCAUGGUUGUGUAUCAUUUAUGCCACUGAUGCUGCUAUUUUCUAUUCUAAUGCAUAAUAGGGAUUUAGUGUUUUUACCGUUAAAAUUGUGUCCUUUAAUUUUGGCUCUUUUCAAUUGUUGAUCAUGUCCACCUAUGCUUUAUUUUACUACUAUUGCUUUCUUCAAUGAUAGAUGAUUGAAUCGGUAGAAUUUUAUUAAUCCUCUACAUGUUUUAGCUUGAUAUGUGGAUCCUAAGCAUUCCUUGGAUUGUGCCCUCUUUGUUCAUUUAUUUUUUUUCCUGGAACCUUAUUACAUGUUGUAACACUCCAGUUUUUUGGAGACAUUGAAGACGACUAACUGCUGAAUUCUUUCUUCUGCAGAGGAACCAAUGGCAAGAGACUCUAAAACUCCUACUCUUUUUUAUACCUUCCUCACCUCUUUGUGACAUUAUAGCUGAAAAAUGAUGUAUGCUAAUACAUGAAAUGUUUCCUCUUGCCUUUCUUUUUGUAGUACUAAAACUACAAAUAGUGUCUGUAAAUCUCUUUUCCCGUAAUCUUAUCUUUUCCUCAUUGUAAUAGUUGGAAAACAGCUUUGUUGAAGACAAUGUCAACUACUGGGAUAAGUUACAAACACUGUUAUUGUUUAUUUUGUAGUCUAAAUUAUGAUAAUUUCUGCACAAAAUUCACAUAAAUGGUUACCCUCCCGAAGCGGAGCGAGGGUGAUGCUUACUAGUUAUUAAGAAAACAGGACCUUGUAGGGCUUAACUGUUGAAUCAAGAAAGAAAUUUCUUUUAAUGCCUUAAAAAAAAGAAAUUUCUUUUAAUGCCUUCAAUUUUUUUUAAAGCUGAUUUUUUUUUUACAAAUUAAAGUUUUGAUUGUAUGUUAAUUGCUUGAGGGAAGGUCGGAUACUUUAUUAUCCCUAUUUUUAUUUGUUAUAUAUUUUAACCAUACUGAUUUUUUUGGCCCUACAAUUUUACCAAAAAAAUCAUAUUAGCUUUCAUUUAAUUUUCGUCUCUUUUAACCCUUUAACUUGUAUUUUUUUUGUCAAAUCACCCCAAAAUGGAUCGAAAACUUUAACAUUUGUGAACUUUGAUUAUGUGACAUACACAUGAAUUGUCACAUGGAUGACAAGUCAACAUUUCUUUAAAAAAAAACUUAAAAAAUAUUAAAUAAAAUAUUUUUGAUAUUUUUUAAUGAUUUUUAAAUUAAAAAAAGUUUUUAAAUAUAUUUUAAUUUUUAAAAAUUAAUAAAACGCAGACAUGGAAAUUCACAUCUAUGUGUCACAGACCGUGGAUUAAAGCCUGUGACCAUUGCGCAUAGAACACCCCAUAGAAUUUUGGCUUUUUAUUUGGUCAAUCAUGUCCACCUAUGCUUUAUUUUUACUAUUAUUGCUUUCUUUAAUGAUAGAUGAUUGAAUCGGUAGAAUUUUAUUAAUCCUCUAUGUAAUAACCAAAUUUUUCCCGGGCCCAAUGCCAAACAAAUAAAACCCAAACCAAAUAAAUAAAAUAAGAGUCCAAAUUACAGUCCAUCAGAGCUCAAUUCAGACCAGCCCACUAUUCAAUCAGACUGGCCCAACACCCAAAUAACCUAACAACCCUAGCCCAACAAAAUCAGAAAAAUGAACAGCAAAAAAACCCUAGGUGCGCCGCACCUAGGUCUUCUGGCCUAACCGCCGUUGUUCGCCUAUCACCAGCCUCCACGCUGCCACCGCCGCAUGCGCACCAGGCCUCCUCCAUGUGUGUCUGACACCUGCAAAGAGAGUCACACGCAACAGUAGAAACAAAAACAAAAAACAAAUAGCAAAACGACAAAAAAAAUAAUGAUUAAGGAGUUCGUAAUCCGACUAUAAAAGCCCUAAUCUGUGACUUGUAAUUUUUUGACACACAUUAGAAAAUAAAAACCAAAAAAAAAAACUUUAAGGUGAUACUCAUUUCAUUUUAUUUUUGUUUUAUUUUAUUUUAUCAUUUUUAUCUUUUUAUUUCGAAAUAACAUAAAUAAAAAGGGGAGGCUGGGUUGCCGUUGCCAGAGCAUAUUUUGUGCUAAAGGGGGUUGCGCCGGAGGAAAAGAGGAAACUUUUCAGUUUCCCGCCGCCGUGAUGGCCAAACCUCUGACUGGCGCUUGGAGAAAGAAGGGGAGAGUUUGAGAGAAUUUUAGGUUUUUUGUUUAAUAAAAGUGAAAAAUGAAGAAUUCUGAAAAAAUUAAUAUUUAUAGCACCUAGAAAUGGCGUCGUUUUGGCCAGUUUCAUUUGGCCCCAAAAUGACACCAUUUAAUGGCCUAUACCGGCACAGUGACCCAACCCGGGGAAGGAUCCGAGCGUUUUGUGCUAUUGGGUAAUUUUCACAUUUGGUCCCUCUUAUUUUGUAGUGUUUUCAAAUUAGAUUUUAUUUAUUUUAAAUUUCAACUUACAUUUUUGUUUUUGUUUCACUUAGAUCCUGAACAAUGCGCAGCGUUUUGGGGGCGAGGAAAUAUUUCCAAUAUGGCCCCAUGUAAUCUGCAUAUUACACUUUAACCCCUCGUCUUGUUUAUAAUUCUAUUCUUUUCUUGUUAAUUUAGAUUCAAUUGCGAUUUAAUCUUUUGUUAAAACAUUUGUUUUCUUUAUUAAUUUAUUAACUAUUUUAUUAUUAUUUUAGUGGUAUAUUCGGUCAUAUUUUCAUUAUCUUAUUAUAUAUUAUCAUUUUGAGUUUUACUUAUAUUAUUAUUAUAAUUUAUAAUGUGUUAUUUUAUUAACUCAAUAUAACAUAUAUAUAUAUGUAUUUUUUUGUGGUUUUAUUUUUAUAAUAUAUUUUUUAAAUCCAUUUUUAUGCACUUUAUAUUUAAGUAUUUAUACAAUAAUAUUCUUAUAAUAUUUUUAUACAUGUACAAUUUAUAUAUAAUUAUUUCUUAUACGUGUAUAUAUACAUAAUAAAUCAUCGAUUACAUGUUAUUAUAUUAUUUCCACUUAUUUCAUAUAUAAUUUAUUUCUUUUAAAAUACUCUAUUAUAUACUUCAUUUAUUUCAACCUUUUAUGUGUAUCAUUAUAGAUAUACUAUUAUAUGAAGUUUUUCAAUCCCUAUGCAUUACUUAUUUAAAUUAAUAUAUGUAUAUUAUUUUAUGUAUUUAGAUUUAUUUUGUAUAUAAUAUCUACUUUUAAAUUUAUUUGGAUACUAUUAUUUUAAGUGGAAUUUAUUUUUAUCUAUAUUUUUUUUAUUUAUUUCAAUUUUUCAUAUAUGUAUAUAUUAUUUAUUUUAAAUUUAUUUUAAUCAUAAUUUCCCUUCUUUCAUAUUUCUUAAGUUUAAAAAAAAACUUGUACAAUUUCAUUUGGUGCUUUGAUUGUUUUUUAAUUCAUUAGCCUUUGAAUGUUAGCAUAAUACAUUAUGUGAGAUUAUUGCUCUUAUACGUAUUAUAUUGCUUAUUUUUAUUUACUAAUUAUUCGUAGAUCAUUAGAAUACAUUUUGGUUUACAAAUUAUCGCUUUGUAUUGUACAUUAAUAUUCAAUUGUUUUUUUAUUCGUUCGAAAGAUUACGUUUAAUAUCAUUUAAGUAUCAAAAUCGAUUUAUUCAAAAACUUUCAAGAUAACGUAAUAUUCUGUAUUUGGGAUAUUCGAGAGAAUUGAGCCUUAAUGUAUUGGGUUCCAAUUUUCCUCGUUGAAUCUAGAUAAUCGAGAAUAAUCUUCAAUCAAAAUACAUACAUAAAAAGCUCAUUAUCGGGAAUUCGAUACAUUGUGUCCUAACGCAUUGGAUACGACAUGUUGUUUUCUCGAGAUGAGGAUUUUUCUAAAAAAAAUAAUAAAGGCAAUAUUCCGUAUUUGGGAAAUUUGAGAGAUCGUGCCCUAACUUACUGGGUUUCGAUUUUUCUCCUUUAACCCAAAUAAUCAAAUAUCCUUCUCAAAAUGCAUAGGUUUUAAAAGUCAAAAGAUAAACUUAAUUUUGAAGAUUAAGAAUGUUGCGCCCUAACUCACUGGGUGUGACAUUUUAUCUCUUUGAAAUAAGAGUGUCUUAUCAUUUAAUUCAAUUUAUUCAAGGUUAAAAGGAUCGUAUUUUAAAACCUUUUCAAAAUUUCAACACUAAGACAUUAAGUAAUCAACUAGGUACCAAUUUUUGGGCGUUACGAGGGUGCUAAUCCUUCCUUGUACGUAACCGACUCCCGAACCUAUUUUUUUGAAUUUCGUGGACCAAAAUCAUUAUUUUAAUAAAAUCAAACCAUUUAUUAAAAACAACCACUUUUCGAGGUGACCCGAUCACACUUCAUCGAAAAAGAUCGGUGGCGACUCCCAUAUUCAUUUUCAUUUUCAAAAUCCAAAUUGACCCUGUUUUAUCAAAAAAUGGUGUCAACACUGCACAUGUUUUAUCUUGACAUAUGGAUCCUAAGCAUUCCUUGGAUUUUGCCCUCUUUGUUCAUUUAUUUUUUCUUGGAACCUUAUUACAUGUUGUACCAUUCCAGUUUUUUGGAGACAUUGAAGACGACUAACUGCUGAAUUCUUUCUUCUGCAGAGGAACCAAUGGCAAGAGACUCUAAAAAUCCUACUCUUUUUUAUACCUUCCUCACCUCUUUGUGACAUUAUAGCUGAAAAAUGAUGUAUGCUAAUACAUGAAAUGUUUCCUUUUGCCUUUCUUUUUGUAGUACUAAGACUACAAAUAGUGUCUGCAAAACUCUUUAGAGAAAAACAAAUGUCUGUAAAUCUCUUUUCCCGUAAUCUUAUCUUUUCCUCAUUGUAAUAGUUGGAAAACAGUUUUGUUGAAGACAAUGUCAACUACUGGGAUAAGUUAUUGUAAGCAUCUUUUCUUUAAGUGUUUCAUAUUAAAAACAAACACUGUUAUUGUUUAUUUUGUAGUCUAAAUUAUGAUAAUUUCUGCACAAAAUUCACAUAAAUGGUUACCGUCCCGAAGCGGAGCGAGGGUGAUGCUUACUAGUUAUUAAGAAAACAGGACCUUGUAGGGCUUAACUGUUGAAUCAAGAAAGAAAUUUCUUUUAAUGCUUUCAGUUUUUUUAAAGCUGAUUUUUUUUACAAAUUAAAGUUUGGAUUGUAUGUUAAUUGCUUGAGGGAAGGUCGGAUGCUUUAUUAUCCCUAUUUUUAUUUGUUAUAUAUUUUAGCCAUAAUGAUUUUUUUGGCCCUACAACUUUACCAAAAAAAUCAUAUUAGCUUUCAUUUAAUUUUCGUCUCUUUUAACCCUUUAACUUAUAUUUUUUUGUCAAAUCACCCCAAAAUGGAUCGAAAACUUAACAUUUGUGAACUUUGAUUAUGUGGCAUACACAUGAAUUGUCACAUGGAUGACAAGUCAACAUUUAGUUUUUUUUUUAAAAAAAAAAACUUAAAAAAUAUUAAAUAAAAUAUUUUUGAUAUUUUUUAAUGAUUUUUAAAUUAAAAAAAGUUUUUUAAUAUUUUUUAAUUUUUAAAAAUUAAUUAAAUGCAAACAUGGAAAUUCACAUCUAUGUGUCACAGGCCGCGGAUUAAAGCCCGUGACCAUUGUGCAUAGAACACCCCAUAGAGGUCAACUUAUUAAACAAGGUUCAUUUGACCCGCAUGAACUGGCCCGACCCAUGGAACCCGUGGAGAAGCCCAUCUACUUGAAGCCUUGGUGGUCUAGUGAAAUAUAGUUUAAUUUUUUUUAAACAUAGGGUAAGGGAAGAAGAAUGCCUUAAAAUUAAUUUUUGUUAGAAAACUAAUAAGAAUGAGUUUGUUGGUUUAGUGUUAAGGCCUUAUCCUAUCCAUAGAUCCCAAGUUUGAAUCCCUUGGUGAGCAUUCAACCAAAAUAUUUUUAUUUCCUUGUUUUUACCACACCAAAAGUGACAAAUUUUAAAAUAACCCAGCCCAAAAACUAUUUUUUUUUAAUUUUAGUCCUUAAUUUAAAAUUUUCCCAAACCUACAUAAAUUUUUAAAACCUAUUCCAAUUAGGAAAAAUAAGUAUUAUAAAUAGACAAUUUCAAAACAAACUCUAGAAUUUCAUCUAGCAAAUUUUCAAGAAAAAAUCCAUAAACACUUUCUUUUCCAAAUCAAACUUUCAAGCUAAAGAAAUCAGAAUCUUCAAAAUCAUCCCUCAAGUAGAUCUUCAAUCUUUUCUCCAGCACUAAGGUUUCUAAGUAUUCAAAAUAGGUGUGGGAACAAAACCUAAAUCUUUGUGUAUAAUUGAAUCUAAUAGCAAGUAGAGAACCAGUAUAGGCUAACCCUAGGAGAAACCCCCUGUAUGUGCAAUCAUGUAGGUGUGAGCCUAUAGAUGCAAAACCCCUUGUACAUGAAAACCCCAUGCAUGCAAACCCUUACGUGAAACCCCCCUUUCAUGCGAACCCUGUAUGAAUACCAUGUGAACCCUAGAUUAUAGUUGCGAACCCUAGGUUGUUAUGUGGAUACCCAUACUGUGAACCCAAGUGCACAAACAUAUAGGAAUAUUCAUGCGAGCCCCCUUGCAUGCGAACCCUAGUUAGUGUACAUACGGGUCUCAUAUUUACAUGCAAACCACUACUAGUGCGAGUCAAUUAUAUGAUAUCACAUACGAACCCUACUAUUACAUGCAAACCUUUAUACAUGUUAUAUUCGAACCUUUUUUUGUUAAAACAGGUGAGACUUGUCUAGUAUUACAUACGACCUAAUUUGCGAACUCAUAUGUUAAAAGUAUGUGAACCUAUCUAUGUUUGUUAUGCGAGCUCACAUGUUAGCAGUAUGUGAACCUAUAUAUAUCAGUUAUGCAAACUCACAUGUUAGCAGUAUACGAACCAUAAGUCUGUUAUGCAAACUCACACAUUGGCAGUAUGCGAACCCUAUAUACACCUUUAUGCAAACUCACACAUUAACAGUAUGCGAACCCUAUAUACGCCUCUAUGCAAACUCACACGUUAGCAGUAUGCGAACCCUAUAUACGCCUUCAUGCAAACUCAUAUGAUUUGCAGCAUGCGAUCUCUAUAUUUAUGCGAACCCUUGUAAUAAAAAAUAUGCGAACCUUAACUUGCGAACCCUUGGCAGGAACCCUGCACUCGCAAAGCCUUCUUCCGGACCUGUACAUAUGCUAGAUAACCAAGCCUAUUAGUUUACAUUAAAUCACUGUACAUAUGAGACUGUUUGUUUACUUGCACAAGUUAUAUGUGUAUUUACUAUUCGAUACAAGAGUACCUAUCGACCUUUUGAUGAGAAUUCAGAGAUUAACGAUGAUAAUUCCAACAAUCAGUGUAAGAACGAGUUAAAUCGAGAGUUGAUGUAAUUUAAGGUAAUAAAGUUAAUUUUUCAGUAAUAAAUGUAAAAUUGUUAUGGAAAGAAACGAUGGGUAAAAAAAAAUGAGAGUUUUAAAUAAAAGAGAGGAAAACUUCAAUUUAGGGUUGAAGAGGAACUAAAAAUUUACGUGAAAUUAGGAAAAAAUAUAAAAUACCUAGGAUUAAGAAAUUUGAGGGGGUUGAAUGGUAAAAUACCCUUUUUUCUUAAAAAUGAAAAAAAAUGGAAAUGGGUAUUAAGUUUGGCACGACUUGAACCUUGGAAGCAAAGGAAAAAAUUACAAAGGCCUUACCAUUUGGGUUGCUACCCACAUUUGGCAUUUUUUUACACUAUUUAAAAUAUAUCCUAGCUUAGUUUUGAUCAUAGGUUGUUGAAAAAAAAAAAAAGGGGUAAGAGUGUGGCUUCAACCUUAAUUCUCUAGUUAGUAUACUAAGCUCUGAACCAUUAAGAUUAAGGCCCAUGUCUUAGUCAAUUAAUUCAUCUAACUCUAUAUAUUUUGAGGUGUUACAUCUUGAAUUAGAAAAACCCAUAAAAUGCAUGUAGACUUGUAUUGCUCGGUACUUGGUAGUAUAUAUGUAGACUUGUAUGUUGAUUAAGCUAGCUUAAUUAAGACCAAUGUGUUAGACUUGUCUAUGCAUUGAACAAUCUAGAAGAAAAUGAAGAAAAAGACUCUGAAAACACUUGAAAACAGAUAAAACUCAUAUGUCAUCGACUAGUUAAACUAUGAUCACCCAUAAUAGACCUUGUAUUUGACUUUUUGUUGAGGGAGAAGUUUCGUGAGUGUUGUUUGUCAGGGAGUCAGUGUUGCCCUAAACAACUAAAGGUAUUGUCCCCAUGUCGAGAUUUUACCCCCAGCCUCUGCAAAAUAAUCAUGAAGAAUACGUGCGAAGGAAUUCAAACACCAACCAAUGCAUGUGUAGCCUUUACCUUCCCACUAUCUUUGGGAACUCAUAAGGAUAAAAUCCCAACAAGAGAAUUGUAUCAGAGGGGUCUGUCAACACAAUGAAUGAAAUUUCAUACUUUUUUUUUAAUGAAAGUAAAUAUCAUAUUUAGUUAGAGAAAAGCAACGAAAAAUCUAACAAUAAAAUCCUUAGCAAAAGAUUAAAACACAAUUGUACCAUAAAUUAAAUAAGAAAUUAAAAAAAUUCAAAUCUAACAAAGACAGUAACUUGAUUCCUCAAAGCUACCACAAACAGUAAUUCAUAGGAAGGCCUGCUGCUCAUUUAUAACACAAACUUCAUGGUGACGGAUACCAACAUACCAUCAACUGAAGUCAUAGUUGACGAGGUUGUAGUUGGCCGAGGUGAUGGUGACAAAAGCCACUCUGGAAAAAUAUUAAUAGCAAUCGCCCUCCAAUUAAUGAGAAUUUAUAAAGUGACCUAAUUAAAUGGUAGCAGUUGUCCAUAAGUGUCAUAUCUGUUGUAAGGCAUGAGCUCAAACCCUACCAAACUCAAAUGAUCAAAUUUCCUUGGUAGGUGGUCAUACGUCACGUACCGUUUGUCCCAACAAGGCGCUCCCACUCUGUUGAACCUCUCAUCUCUUUAGGUAGCUUUAGGCACUUGAGAUCUUUACAAAGUCGAGAGGUAAAAUUAUUGGAAAAAAAAACUCGGUUUGAAAAUGGUUUUCUUGCACAGUAGAAAAAUAAAAUUUUGAAAAUUGACUUGGUUUGUGAUAUUUAUAACAAAAAAAAACCUUAACUGAAUUCAUACAUGUGUUUUUGGAUAAGUGGAUCCUUGAUGUUUUCAGGCUUUCAACCAAACGAUCUUUUGCACUAUUCUCGUACCACGAUCUGCUUCGAGUGUGGCCUCGAACCAAUUGAAUCAAAACACAAAACUAGAAAAGGUUUUCCUUUUUGGGUGAAAACCAAAAUUCUCUCUUCUUUAAUAGAAAUCGGUAAAAUUAUUAUUAUGAAAAAUAUGUUUAUAAGUUGAGAAUAAAUUCUCUCUAUUUUUCGACAGAAUAAAAAUCUCUGAAAAGUUGUGUAAAUAGCUCUACUGGUGCCAUUUAUUUAUAAGAAGAGAAAGUAGAACCCUUGUAGAGUUGUAAAAGUUUAUAUCCACUAGAAAAAUAAUAUCCUAGCCUAUCUAGGAUAUAGGGAGCAACAACCCUAGUUAAUGAUACUAGGGUUUUGUCGUCCCACCUCCUUAUAUGAGGGGUUUUAGGCCUCUCUCACAUCAGGUCCAAGUACAAGUAAUUCUUAAAUAUAAAUUUGAAUUUGAUAUAUUGAUUACAUAUGAAUUUAUAUAUUGUGAGUAAAAUUUUUAUUUGAUAUAUUAAUAAUGUAUAAAUUUAUAUAUUGUUAAUACAUCAUAUGUUUAAAAAAUCUAAUAAUUAUAUAUUAUUUUCAAUAAUUUUUAAAUUUAUUAAUUGAUUUAUUGGUAUAUUAAUAUUAUUUAUUAGUAAUAUGUAAAUUUAUACCCUGUCAAUUUAUGAAAUAACAUUUAGUGAGUGGAAUAUAUAUAAAAGAAGAUAUUCUAAAUCUUUCUAAGAUUUCUAAUUCUUCCUUAAAAUAGAAAAAGAAAUAAAUUGUUGAUAUAGAUAUGUUGAUAAGAUUUUCAUGUAGGGCUUUUCUGUAAUUCAUGAUUUUGUUACAUGCAUAAAUUGUAAUUGUGAUAUUUUAUAUUUUAUUUAUAUAAAUCAUGUUAAAUUUGAUUUAAAUUCCUUUUUUAAUUAUUUAUUCUUUUAAGAAAUUUCAAGUAUUCAAUAAAUAUUAAUGUAUACUUUUUCUUAAAUUGAUAUAAUAGUGAUAUCAGAUUAGUUUAAAAUUUUGCGUGUAUGACAAGUACAAUUAUAUCGAUAGAUUCAAUAGUCGGAUUAUUCAAAUAUUACUCCUACAAAUAUAUAUUUGAAGAAGUAUAAACUGCUUUAAUUUUACACUGGUAUAAGUAGAUCUCUCUCUUACAUCUGUUGUAUAUAUGAAAUUUUGAUUUUGAUUCAAACGUACUCAUUUAAAGAAAUAAAUAUAUCAAUUUAUUUUUAUAUUGAAUAAGUAUAAUUAUUUGGAUAUGCAAUAUAUAGAUGUAAAAUGAUGGUAUAUAAAUAACGAUGUUAGAUGUUUGUGAAAAUUGAAUCAAAUCAAUAUUUCAUGUAUAAAAUUGCACAAUGGACCAAAGUUCAUGUACAAUUUUGAUCUUUAUAUCUGAAAUUUAUUAAUGCAAAUUAUUUUCCAAAAGAUCACAUUGAGUAAGUUUAAUUUAAAUUUCAAUAUUUAAAUUUUUUUCUCAUAUAGAAAUAUAAUUUUUUUAAAAGAAGUGUAUACUAAUUGUUGAAAGAUUUUCGACUCUUUUGGAAAGUCUUCGAAGUGGCAUAUUUUGAAGAUGGUGGACCCUCAACACGUCCAAUAUUAUCAUUGGUUAAGGUUUUUGUUGGAUCUAGUGUCCUAAGUGUAGUACUUUUCAUCAAUAUACAGUUGUAAAUUUUUUUAACAAAUUGGUUAAUAAAACAAAUUUAUUGAUUAUAUUAAUAUACUUUAUAUAAUUGUCCUAACAUAGUUUUUGCACGCAAAGCAAAAUGGAAGCAAAUGUUGCUCAUUGGUUGCCUAAAUAUUUAAUUAAUACUAAGCGGUAUUAUGUGUAUAAAAAGACAGCUUGUAUUAGUAGACAAACCUAAACAUGUCCUUAGCAUAAUUGGAAAUUAGUAAAUUGAUUGAAAGACUAAUAUGUCGUCUAUCAAGUGUAUUUGGGGAAAUGCCUUGUCUUGGGCAUCGAAACGGAUGACUCCCAAAAGGUAGAGACAUAGAUGUGACUGACUGGACUGGUAGUAAAUUGGAUAGGACACAAACAGAAUAGAUCCUGAAUUCGUUUAUGGACUUAUUCACUUGUGAUGUCCAUAGUGUGGCAUACAUAAAUCUUGAAUGGAUAGCGGAGUACGUAUGUGUGACUUUUACACUUUGAUGUAAGUAAAAACAUAAGUUCAAUUAGAUAAGGAACCAGAAUCUGGUACAUUUGGUUUACGACUUCUAUAGUAUGUAGCAUCAUUUAUAAUAGUGAAAUUCAUAGCGCAAAAAAUGGGUAAAUGAUAUCCUCUCAUUGACAUUACAUGGUUAAUGAAAAGUAAACGUGGCCACGGGUUGUCCGUCUUUGUGAUGGAAACUUGAUCACUAAUUGAUAAUGAUUGAUUUUUCACGAAAGAAGAUGUAAUGGCUACCAUGAGAUAAAAUAUGAUCAUAUUAGGAGAACAAAUAUUAUCCCAAAGAGAUCAAGGAUAUCCUAUGAGGGUAACACACUAAUGACAAGGUUAUUGGACGAGCAUUAAGUAGUUGCUUUCGUAAUGGUAUGUCGUUAGGGAUAUUUCAUUCACGACACUAUAGUGGAAUGACUUCGUGACUAAAUGAUUUUAUAAUUAAUAGGUGAAAAAAUAGAAUUUAAUUAUAAAUCAUUUGAGCCUCAAGUUUAUAUGUCUACUCGGUCCCCCAACUGUUAGUUCAUUGAAACCAAAAAUUAAUUGCACGUUUGAAUGGAAAUCAGCGAAAUGGAUAGAAAAAGAGAAAUGAGAAACAUUCAGGAAUGAUUAUGGUUUCCUCUAAAAUGGAGAAAUGGAAUAAUUUGAAAAUGAAUGUAGGUUUCCAAAAAUGGAAAUAGAAAUGAAAAUGGAAACUUGCAAUUUUAUAUAUGAUUACUUAAAAAAUGAUGGAAGAAUGAGUUUAUAUUUUUGGACUAUUUUGAAGCUCGAAAAUGAAAAUAAAUCAUUCAGUCAUAGUGAACAUAUUGAGUUGUGUCAUAUUAAACGAAUUUUCUUGAAAUUUUAUUGGAGGUAAAAUUGCCAAAAUUUUACUGGGUAAAAUUGUCGUGAGAAAAUAAUUUAAUAUGUAAAUAUUAAAAUUUAUUUUGGAAAUAGAAAAAUUGAAUUGGGUUGGACCAUAUUACAAAGUACUAGAUCAAAAAGGCCCAGAAAGUACUCGUACUUGGACCCGAUGUGAGAGAGGCCCAAAACCCCUCAUAUAAGGUGGGACGGCAAAACCCUAUUAACUAGGGUUGUCGACCCUUAUAUCCUAGAUAGGCUAGGAUAUUAUUUUUCUAGCAGAAAUAAACUUUUACAACUGUACAUGGGUUCUACUUUCUUCUCCUAUAAAUAGAUGGCACCAAUAGAGCUAUUUGUACAACUUUUGAGAGAUUAUUAUUCUACCGAAAAGUAGAGAGAAUUUAUUCUCAACUUAUAAACAUAUUUUUUAGAAUAACAAUUUUACCGAUUUCUAUUAAAAAAGAGAGAAUUUUCGUUUUCACCCUAAAAGGAAAACCUUUUCUAGUUUUGUGUUUUGAUUCAAUUGGUUUGAGCCCACACUCGAAGCAGUUCGUGGUACGAGAAUAGCGCAGAAGAUCGUUUGGUUGAAAGCCUAAAAACAUCAAGGAUUCACCCAUCUAAAAACACAUGUAUGAAUUCGGUUAAGUUUUUUUUGCUACAAAUAUCACAAACCGAGUUGAUUUUCAAAAUUUUAACUUUUGAUGUGCAAGAAAACCAUUUCCAAACUGAGUUUUUUUUCAACAGUUUUAUCUCUCAACUUUGUAAAGAGCUCAAGUGCCUAAAGCUACCUAAAGAGGUGACAGGUUCAAUAGAGUAGGAGUGCCUUGUUGGGACAAACGGUACGUGAUGCAUGACCACCUACCAAGGAAAUUUGAGUAUUUGAGUUUGGCAGGGUUUGAGCUCAUGCCUUACAACAGAUAUGACACUUAUGGACAACUGCUACCAUUUAAUUAGGUCACUUUAUAAAUUCUCAUUAAUUGGAGGGCGAUUGCUAUUAAUAUUUUUCCAGAGUGGCUUUUGUCACCAUCACCUCGGCCAACUACAACCUCGUCAACUAUGACUUCAGUUGAUGGCUACACUUUGCCAGCUAUAGACCUCAUCAAUACAUAUAUGCCUAGUACAUGAUACUUCUAAUAUACCUCGUUAGUGAAAGAUGUUGGAUCCUUCUAUGCAUGGAUCACACGUAGGGUACUCUUGCUUAGGAAUGGCAAUAGGUUAGUAUCUACAUUUCUUGAAUUAUUAGAAUUUGGAUAUGCAUAUUUGCUUAAAAAUCAAAAUUUUUUUAUUAUCUAUAAAUCAUCUGAGUAUUACUAUCUAAAUUUGGCUUAAUUUAAGUACUAUUAUCUGUCAAAUAUCUGAAUCCACAAAAAAAGGGCAAUUUUAAAAUUUUCAAUCAUUUUUUGGAUAUCCAAAUUCACGAAAAUUCAAAAUUGAAUCCACCAAAUUUUUUUAUAUAUAAUCAAAACUAUACAUAUUUCGUGACUAGUUUAUUUAGAUAUUGAAAUUCCAAUCUACAUCUGCUAUUCGAAUAAGUAAUGUUGUAACACCUUAAAUAAUUUAAGUUUGUUUUUGUGAAAUUUAACACAAAAUGUGUACCUGCUUCAGUGGUUAAGUGUUCUAGGUGUGUGUGUGAGGUAUUGGGUUCAAUUCCCACUUUUGGCAAAACUUUGUUAUUUUAUAUCCAAGCCUAACUCUUAUUGAGUGGGCUUAUGUUAAUUGUUUGUUAAUCCAUAUCAGAAUAAGCUUGUUGGUUUGAGUGGUAAGGAGUUGGUGUGUAGGAGGUCUUGUUUUUGAAUCCCUACGUGAGUGUAGGUAUUAAUUUUUGCUCGGUUGUCUGAUAGAGUUUGAGUGGUCUUGAAAGUCUGAGGUUGUUAAGGUUGAGUGUUAGUCUGAAGUUAGGAUAUUGUGAGGGGAUUUUUAUGUUGAUUAUUAUUAUUUUAUUUUAUUCCUUUUUCAAAUUUUCCUCUCUCUUUCCAAAAUUUCCCUUUAAUGUUAUUCUUCAAGUUUUUUUUGUUGUCUCUGAUAUUUUUCCCCCUUUUCAUUAAAUCUUUAUUUUGUUCUUCUUUUUUGAUUAUGUUCGUCAACCUAUCAUUCGAUCGUGCCAUUGGAGUUGUCGGGUUAUCUAAUCGGUUGGUAAGUAAAACCUUGCUUCCCUUUAACUUUUGAUUUGGGAUUAUAGUGAUUUCAAUAUGUAGCAAUUGAUUAGUGGAACUUCGUGUUUAGGAGAAGAUUAUGGAGCAAUGAAUUGCACUCCAACAGUUUAGUGUGUAUUGAAGUGGUUUGUCAUCGACGGUAAGUCAGUUUCGUGUUGUUUCUUGUUGUCAAAUUCAUUAAUCAAACUACUAAAUCAAUGUUGGGUACUUUAAUUUUAGGAUUCGGAAGGCUCGGGAGUAUUUUUGCAUUAAAAUCGUAAUAGGUGUGUCCCCAAAACACAGAAAGUCAGGUUUCGAUAAAAGUCAAAAAUGCAUUUUGUCGAUGCGACAAGGGCAUGUGCCUGGUCGUGUGGCUAGUCCUGUGUGAGACACGGCCAUGUAUUUGACGAGGGUGUGGCUGUGCGCAAGCCACGGUCAUGUGGUAGUGUAAGUGUGGCUGUGUAGGCCAUACGGGCUAGGCCAGUCUAGGUUUGUGGGCCUACACAGGCAUGCCACACGGACGUGUAGGCCCAUACGGCCAUGUAGGCCCACAAUUUUGAGAUUUUCCCUUAGGUCGCACGGUUCGUUUCGAACGAUUGUGGACCUACCAUAGGGUCGGUAAGGGCUAAUCAAACCCUAAAUUAUGUGAAAUGAUAUUUUGAUCGUUCGCCUUGUGUAGGAUGUCAAUAUGUACAUCUGUUUUAUUUACGUAUAUAUAUGCUAUCUGUAUAUGAGCAUGUUAUGCAUGAUAUUACUGUAUCUGUUAUUUCUAUAUUAUGUAUCUGUAAUUGGGGUGGGUUUUGUAUAUGUAGAGAAAGUGAUCUGUACGAUAACACUUCCAUUAUAUUUUGACAGUUGACUGCAUAUUAUUUGUAAUGUGUCGCAUUGACACUAUAUGGUGUGUAGGGAUGGGUGGGUGCUUUUAACCCCAUAUGGUGUGAUGGGAUAGUCGAAGAUGUUGUGUAGAGGAUGGGGGUAGGAUUCUGUAUAUCUGUACUACUUAUCUGAUUUUGUUAUCUGUAUCUGGAAUGGAUAUAAGUCCGGAUCUUGAUCUGACUGUAUAUAAGACUUCUAUUUGUAUUGCAUGUCUAUUUUUGUUAGGUUACACAAUAAGUUUACGAAAACUCACAUCUGUUUGUCUGUUCUGUUUAGGUCUAUAGACUUAGGCGGAUCAGUGUGACGGAGCCUCACAGUAACCACGAGAUUGUAAACUAUUUAAGAUUACGGUUUUUAUUUAAUUUAAGGAUUCUUUCUGGAAGUUUGUAAUAAUUGGACUUUCUAGAAUAUUUGACUUUUAUUUCAGUUUUGGAGGUGUUUUAACUUUUAUGGCCACGUUUGACCAAAUUCACGGUUUUACUAAAAUAAAGGAUUUUCUGAAUACACGAAUUAAAUUUCCAAGAUUCAAUGCUUUUUGAAAACUUCCGCUGUAGAUUAUGUUUUGGAAAAUGAAUGAAUUAAAUAACGCUUCUAGUAACAGAUAGUACACUUGGGGUGAUUUAUCGAACGACUAAACAAAGCUUUAUUAAAAUAUCACUAUUUUAAAAACCCUUCCAUGUAACACUCUUAGAUUAGGCCACAACGUCUAGGCCAGGAUUAGGGUGUUACAUUUAAUGGUAUCAGAGUCAGGUUACAAAACUCGAGCUGUGAAUUUUGGGUUUCAAAAUUAUGUUUUGAAAAGAACAGGUUUUCAAAUAAUUUGGAUCAUUUUGAAUAAGUAUGUGGUACACUGAGUCUCCGGCGUUGAUCCUAUAAGUACUUUUGAACUUAGAUAAAACUUUCUGAAAACACUAUAGUUAGUACUUUCUGAAAUUGUACUGAGUUAGUUAAAAAAUAAAAACUUUUGAAAUAUGUUCGAACUUUUGAUAAUUUGAGCAUGAAAUAUAUGUUAAUAAACAUUGGAGCUGAUGCAUAAAAUUUUCUAAUGUAGAUAAAUUUGAAAAUAUACGAUGAGCGCUUGUGGAACUUGCGGUCAUGGUAUUCGUAGGCUCAGUGGGGGCCGUAAGGGGCUGGAGCUGAGUCUUUUUCUCUGGGCAGUAUGCCAAACUUAGAUAUGAGUAAGCCACCAGUGUCACUUGCUACUGAGACAAGGUCUCAAAGCCACUUGGCUGGGGACGACACACUAUCCCAAGCCAUGUUGAGGGUGUUGGAGAGGGUCACUGGACCCCAUUCUGGAUCUGUGGGCCGUAGGACGGUAACUGAACGACUCUGGUCCAAUAGAGCUGAGUUGUUUAGGGGUGUCAUUGAAGUCGCCCCUAUUGUGGUCGAGUAUUGCUUGGAGGGCACAAAGAGGAUUAUGAACGACAUCAAUUGUACUCCUAAGUAGAAAUUUAAUGGUGCAGCCUCUGUACUUCGCGAUGAGGCAUAUCAGUGGUGGUUGUCGGUUGAGGAGGGUACUCAACGGGACUGUCUGAACUGGGAUUAUUUUAAGACUACCUUUCAGGGGAAGUUUGUGGGCGCAAGCUAUGUUGAUACUUGUAGGCGUGGGUUCAUGAAUCUCACGCAAGGUGAUAAAUCUGUGGCUAAGUAUGAGGCCGAGUUUCUAAGGUUAAGCCGCUACGCUUGAGGCAUGGUGGUGACUAAAUAUGAGAAAUUCAUCUAUUUUAAGGAUAGCUUGAGGUAUAAUCUGAGGGUAUUGAUUGCUCCACAAAGGGAACGACAGUUCGCAGUUCUUGUGGAUAAGGUGAAGAUCGCCGAGGAGAUUAAGUGCGUGGAGCGCUAAAAUAGGGAUCGUGAGUGAGGCAAGAAUAAGAGGGAUUCAGAGCCCUCUAGUUCUGUUUAGAGGGCUAUUAGAGUAGGGGUUCCUAUUACUUCUAAUAGGAUUCAGCCACGUGAUGAUUGUGGUAGGCACCAUCCGGGUGAGUGUUAGAGGAGGUUAGGGGCUUGUUUGAGGUGUUGGUCUUUGGAGCACCACAUUAGAGAAUGUUCACUCCAUGCGGAUUAGAUGCAAGCUGUAGGAUCAAGUUUUAUACAACCUUAGAGGGCAGUUCAGCAGCCAUCUAAGGGUCGUGGUCCUACUAGGGGUGGUAAUGGUAUGGGUCGAGGACAUAGAAUAUCGGGAAAAGGUGUUAGUUAGAUUGAGGCAAGGCAGCCUGCACUGGUUUAUGCUACUCGAUGCCGAGAGGAUAGAGACGCUCCUGAUGUUAUCACAGGUACUUCUUUAUUUUUGGUGUUCCAUAUACUGCUCUGAUAGACAUAGGUUCUACUCAUUCCUAUGUAGGUAGUACUAUUUCUAAAAAUUUAGGGAUUUUUGGUGAGGGUACUUCUAGUGAAAUUAUUGUACUGAGUUCGUUGGGGCAGUCUGUUCAAGUAAGUAGGCUUUAUAGGAAUGUAACUUUGGAAGUACAAGGGAUUGUGUUUUCGGCAGAUCUGAUGGAGUUACUGUUUAGGGAGUUUGACUUAAUUUUGGAUAUAGAUUGGUUGGUUGAGCUUCGAGUUAGCUUGGAUUGCACGACUAAGAGGGUCAGUCUAAGGGCUGUGGAUGAAAGAGAGAUAGUAGUGAUCGGUGAGCAUCGAGAUUAUCUACUUAAUGUGAUCUCUGCUAUUGUGGCUGAAAAAUUGGUUCAGAAAGGGUGUGAGGCGUAUUUAGCUUACGUCAGUGUUCCAGUUUUUGGGGACUCUUCUGUCCGGGAUAUCAGAACAAUAAGGUAAUUUUUGGAUGUAUUUCUUGAGGAAUUAUCGGGUUUACCUCCGAAUUGAGAAGUUGAGUUCGAUAUUGAGCUUCUACCAGGUAUAGCUUCAGUGUCCAUCGCUCCCUAUCGAAUGGCAUCGAAGGAGCUUACAGAGCUUAAGGCUCAACUUCAAGAGCUUUUGCAUUGUGGUUUCAUCUAUCCUAGUGUGUCUCUAUGGGGGGCACCGAUUCUGUUUGUAAAGAAAAAGGAUGGUACCACAAGGAUGUGUAUUGACUACCUGCAGUUGAAUAAACUAACAGUAAAGAAUAAGUAUCCACUUUCGAGGAUUUAGGACUUGUUUGAUCAGUUCCGAGGGGCUGCAGUGUUUUCAAAAAUAGACCUUCGUUCUGGGUAUCAUCAGCUUAACAUUAGAUUUUCAAAUUUAAAAAUUAUUUUUUUUACAGCUGCAUAAUUAAUAAGAUAUCAAUUUUGAGUGCUGUAGAAGUGUUAUAACCUUCUCAACGCAUAACCAACUCUUGAAUUCACUUUUUUCUCUAAAAUUCUACAUAGAACACAAAUUUAUUUUUUAAAAGAAUUUUAAAUCUCACAAUUUUUUUAGGUGAUUCACCAAAGAAUAAAAAGAUAGGAGGUGAUUCCUCCUUUUUCAUAAAACCUUGUGCUUUUGCAAACACCAAAUUAUUGCUAAGCUUUACAUUAAUAGACAUGAUUUAUUUGUUCGUUAUUACUAUUUCUAUGAUUAUAAUACUAAACUUAUCGGACUACAAUCAUAACCAUGUUUAUUAUAAUUCAAUAAAAAGAAAUAAGUGUUGGGUGUAAUGGCAAGGUUCAUUACACUCUUAAUAAGAGAUCAGGGUUUUGGACAAAGGAAGAAUAUGAUUCGAAUUUUGGAGAUGCCAUUCUUAAAAUGAGCAACCACGAAGCCCGAUUAUGAACCAUAAAAUGAACAAGAAAAGUACAAAAAAUACGUCUAUUAUCAAAUUAGUAAUCCAUCCCAAGGCUUAAAUUAACAAAAUUCACCAUGCAACCGUGUAGACUAUUUUACGUAUAUACUAUAUUCAUUCUUCAUGCAAAAUGUUUAUUAUAUUUAAAAAUUAAAAUAUAUGGUUGAUUGAGUUUUAGUUGAGUUAAUAUUGAUAUUGUUGUUAGUGCAGAAGAAUGUGAGUUCAAUCAUGUUUAAACGCGUUUUUCUUUCAAUUUAGGAGUUGGAAAGGGUUCUCAAUAGUUAAAUUAUAUAAGUUUUUUUGUCUAUUUAAAAUUGAUUUAUAAACAAUAUAAAUAAAAAGAUUUAAAAUAUAUAUAUUCAUAUUGAUGGGCUUUUUCAUUAUUAGACUUUUUUCCUUACAGGUAAAAGUAUAUAUGGACAUGAUGAUGUAAAAUUAUGACCUGAAUAAUUUUAAACCUUUCAUCACUGCAAAAAUGAAAAUAAUAGAAAUGAAAGACUAGCCAUUGUAUGAAAUUUAUAAUUGAACUGCCAACAAAAUUGGGAGAAAUUUUUAAAUUUUAUGAAAUUUUAAAAUUAAACUAUCAAUAAUAGAAAAUUGCCUGAGUGACUUGGGAUUAGAGGUUGAACAUUUCUGGACCACAAUACAUUUAAGAUGGGUCUUUAAAGUUAUACUUUAGUUAUUGAGAACAUUUUCCACAAAUUGUCAUUAUUGUUUACUGCAGCAAAACAGGCUUUUAGCAUCGUUUUUUUAGGCCUAUAGCGGCGUUUUCACAAGAGUCGCAAAAAAUGCCACUAUAAAAAACGCUGUUAAAUUUUGCGGCGUUUUAGAACAUGACCUUUAGCGGCACUUUACCCACAAAUGCCACUGAAGAACAUGAUCUUUAGCGGCGCUUUCCCAUAAACACCACUAAAGAACUUGAUCUUUAGCGACACUUUUAUCACAAACGCCGCUAAAGAACAUGACCUUUAGCGGCGCUUUUAUCACAAACGCCGCUGAAGAGCAUGGCCUUUUGUGGUGCUUUUAUCACAAACGCCGUUAAAAGUACCAUUCUUUAGCGGCGUUUAUGAAAAAACACCACUAACUUUGGCAGAUUUGUAACAUCCAAUUUUCAUCCAUAUACAACCCUUCCUGUAGCAUGAAAUCCAACCAAAAACAACAAAUCUAAAUGAUACUUCAAAUUCUACAAAAGAUAUAUGAUAUAAAUUGAUAACUGAAGUAUAAUUCAAAAUAUUCUUACAAUAAUGUUAAAAGUUACAACGUUAAAAAUAUUCUUACGAUAAGAAAGCAAUGUCUAAGAUGGCGGAUUUUGCGACUGCUGAAACAUCUUCAUCAUAUUCUGAAGCUGUAGCUGGAGUGCGUAGUACUUUUUGACUGAAUAAACACAAAUCUAUUUUUCGACAGCUAUAUCAAAUUAGCUAUAAACCUUCAACAGGACCAGUACUUGCAAAAACCUCUUGGAGUAGUGGUUCAGCCCACCAACCUGCAGUUUCUCAAAAAUUAAAAUAAAAAAUUAAAAGUUAAAGAAAAAAUAGAAAAAAGAAGAGAUAAAUAAAACUAUAUAAGUAACUUUCUAAGUUGUUAAAAAGAUGCAAGAACAUGCAAGCAUCUAUCAGAUUCCAAAAACCAUUUAACUAGCAAUUAAAAGAGCCAUUAGCUUAGAAUUUUGCACAGAGGGUCAUAGCCACAUAUCCAAUCAGCAACUCAUGAAGGAAAGUGUCUCUAAUUCAUGCAGUUAUAAGCACAAAAGUGACUAGGGUAUGUGCUUAAGCAAGAAGGGGAAAUAAGAGACUCACAAUAUACAAAUAAAACAAAAUGGAAAAAAGGGGAAAAAGAAGUAAAAAAAACCUAGGCAAACACUCACACACUGCGGCAAGUACUUGGAUCAAAACCAUGAGGCAAAUUUCCACUUGGUAUUGGCUCUGUUUGUAGAAUAGAAAAGUGAAAAAUAAAAAAGAGGAGAAAAGAAGAAACGAUGUACAAAAAAUUCAAAUCCCACUCAACUCAAUUCUAAAGCCUCCAUAUCCAAGAAAAAGGAUGAGUUUUUGAAGAAAUCCAAUAGUCAACCUAAAUGAACAAACAAGAUGCUAACUACGACCAUGACAAAUGUAAGCAUCACUUCUCCUACUUUGGAAACACUUUCCACUUGAAAAGACAACAGACUUCCUUGCUUUUACUAUUAUCACAUUUUCCCCCUUCAUUUUUUUAGUGCCGACCAGAAAAAAAAUAUUUUAGCCUCAUCUAAAUAAGACAAAUUUCAGCAGAACAAUAGACAGUAGAUCAGACCCAAUUCAAGGGUAAUGUAGUCCAAAGUUCCUUGAACUCCCUCCUUCAAAGUGAAAAACAAAUCUAUAUCUUUCUGCAUGAUUCAAACAAAAAUGACUGUUGGACAUGUAACUCAGAAAGAAUGCAAAUACAUUGAAAGCACCACAGACUUUAUAAAUUAGCUUCAUGCUGCUAAAUUUCAACACUAUAAACCUAACAAAGCCCAGAAUGAAAUGCGGGAAUCAUGUCUUAAACUCUAAUACUCAAACAAGAGACAGAUAAAUUGCACGUUUUUUUAUAUAAUAUUUACAAACUAGAGAUAAAGAUAUAGAAAAAUAUAAACAUGGACAUGGACAAAAAGACUAAUUGACUGUGCAUGUGUGCCAAAGAGAUGGCAACUAAACAUUAUCCAAACACAAUCAUUUCUCAACAUUUGCAAAACAAAAUGAAGAUUAAGAUUAGCGGUAAACUAAAUAAAACCAAAGAAAUGAGAACCACAAGUAAAUGAGAAAGAAAACAAAAUAGAGAACCUAAUAGCUUUCCCAUUGAACUUCGUAUAAAAGAAAUAACAACAUUCGAACUUCAAGCAAAUAAAAAUGUAAAAUAUUUAGAAUCAAAACAAUCUUUUAUCAAAAUUCAAACCAAAAACAAUGAGCUUCACUCUAUACAAGAAGCAUGUUAACCUCAUAGGCUUUCUGAUUUCUGGAAACCAAAUCCAGAAACGUCUCCCACCAAAAAUCAAGAAAAUAAAUUUUGUUUUUAAAAAUUACAUUCAAAUCGUGAAAUAGGAGCAAGGUCCUUCGAAUUCAAGCAAAGUUGAUGGUAAAAGCUUAGCUUUCAAAGGUCAAACAUCACAGCAUUAAAUAUAAAACUAACCCAAUCUCCACCAAUUCAAAAACAAGAAACCAAACACGAACCAGAAGAUCCAAACACGAUUUCGAAAAAAAGAAAAAUAGAUAUUCCUGAAAACUGGAUCAAAAACUAGCAUAUACUUAAUAAAAAGAGAAAUUGACGGAAAAUCAUAGGAGAUCUGCAUGCAAAUAGAGGCACACUUUUGCUUGAUUAUUCGCUUAAAAAAGUAACAAUGGAAAAUAAGAUGCAAGUUCUAGGUAAAACCAUCAUGUCUUCUUACUCACCACAAACAAAGGCCCUCUAGGACCUUCAUGAAUUUUUGUCUCAUAAGUGCUUCUAUUGUGAGCCCGAACAGCUUGAUAGCCCACAAGAUAAGGAUAUCGAUCUUCAUCCUACAGAUUAACAAGGUUAAAUCCACUUAAAUGAAACACCAUUAGUCCAUAACAAUUUACUUCAAUUUUCUGCUGUUAGUUCAAAUAUGUAUUUUUUUUAAUUUGACAAAACUUGUUAGGAUCGAAUAUUCGGAAUUCCUAAAUUUCAAUUCAAAUUUACACCAUACUUGCAGAAAAAUAUACUACUAUUAGAGACACCGGCAAUCAACCAGAGUUCUUUAGUUUUCAAUCAAGUUAUUCGGCAGGAAUCUAUAUUGAUUACACAAAAAAAAAAUCAUACACCGUGAGAAUGUCGAGUAAAUUGCAAAUAGAAAAGCAAACGAACCCUAGAGGAGCUCCAAUACUUCUUCUCCCAAGGGCCUUUGUAUAGAGAUCCAAUGGAAAUGAUCUCUAGAUCGUCUAAUUUCGCUGUUUGUUCUGCUUCUUUAGUUUUUGCCAUUCAAAGAAAUGAGAAGAAAGCAAGAUUUCCAAACAACUAACAAUAAGCGAGUAGACAGAAUUUUCAAGAUAGAUGAAGAGAUGGCAUUUUAAAAUAGCGGGAACUAAAAUCUUGAAAUGCGUCAUUUCCCUCAAAAUUCUAAAUAAAAACUUUAUUUAAUUAGGAAAAAUGUGAAUCGAUUUUGGGAAAAAUAAGAGGAAAAAAAAAGAAGAUAUUUCAUUUGAAAUUUUGGGAUAAAAAAUAUAAUUACAAAACGACGCUGUUUUGCAAAAUAUAUAUUCGUGGCAUUUGGACCAAAAACGCUACUAUUGUUCAACUUUUUUGCGACGAUUGCAACAAAAACGCCGCUAUUGCUUACCUUUUGUGGCAUUUUUUUUAUAAACGCAGCUAACGCUCGACUUUUUUACAAUUUUUAUAUUGAAUUAUUGUAUCUUUCAUAUAAAUUUUAAAUAAAUAAUUUUUUAAAUUUUACGUAAUAUUUAAAAGAAUUAGAUAAAAUUAUAAUUUUUUAUUUUUUGUAUUUCAUUUUUAUUUUUGUAUUUCAUUUUUAUUUGUUAUAAUUUGGUCCUAUCCAAAAUAGAUAGUUACCUAUCCAUAUCAAUCUGUUACUUUUUUUAUUUAUUUAUCAAUGUUUUUUUAAAUCUAAUAUUUAAAUAUAUCAAAUGGUUUAGAUUAAAUAUUUUUAAAUAUAAAAGCAUUAAUUGAUUGUAUAAAAUUUCAUCAUUUAACAAAUCUCAAGUAAACCUUAAAUCCUAAACCAUUUAAUAUUUAUAAAGUUUAUCUAUUAUCUCUUAUAUAAUUUAAACUAUAAUCAUAAUUUUAAUAUAUUAAAAUUAAUAUUAUCUCUUUUACAAUUAUAUAAGAAAUGAUUUAAUAUAUAAAUUAAAAAACACUAAUUAAUCUAAACUCUAAACCCCUAUCCCCUAUCCCCUAAACCUUAAAUCAUAAAACAUAACCCUUAACCCUUAACCCUUAACCCUUAAUCCUUAAUCCUUAACCCCUAAACCUUAAACCCCAACCCUUAAACCAAAAAUCAUAAACCAUAAACCAUAAUCCCUAAACCCAUAAUCCAUAAACCUUAAAAUAGUAACUCCUAAGCCAUAAACCAUAAACCAUAACCCUAAACCCUAAACUAUAAUGAUAAUUAAUUCAAUAUUUUAAAAUUAAUACUAUCUCUUUUACAAUUAUAUAAGAAAUUAUUUAAUAUAUAAAUUAAAAAACAAUAAGUCAUGAACCCAAAAAACUUUAAAAUUAUUUUAAAUAAUAGUAUUUUAAUUUUUUUCAUUUUUAACAAAUAUUUUCUAUGUUUUUACUUCCAAAAAUUGUCUACAUGUCAUUAUUUUUUUUUGAAGAAUUUAAAUAUUCAAUUAAAAAUAAAUUUUAUUUUAAUUAUAUAAAUAAACCAGUUAAAUAAUAAAUAGACAAAUAAAAUAUUUUUUGCGGCAUUUUUGAUAAAGUGCCGCUAAAGCUCGAUCUAUAGCAGCGUUUUACAAAAAAGCGUCGCUAAUGCCACUAAAGCUCAUUACUGAAUUUUUUGCGGCAUUUUUCAAAAAGCGCUGCUAAUGCUCGACCUAUAGUGGCGUUUUUCAAGAAGCGCCGCUAAUGCCACUAAAGCUCAACAUAAAGGUACUUGAGUCUAGUUUCAAAGACAUCAAGCGGAUAUUAAUUCGGAAUUCUGUAGCUCAAGAUAUAAAUUUAUGUUAAUCUUGUUAUCUUUCUUAUUUUAGAAUUGAUUACAUGAAAGUUAAUUGCUAAUACUAUUAGUUAAUUAUUAGUUUUCUUCAAAUCAAAUUAAAACCCGAAAGGUCCCUCUUUUUUUAUAUUAGUUUUAGUUUUCCAUUAAAUUUGUUUCUUUGUAAUAAAAUUAAAUUAUAGAAAUAACAUUAAAAUUUUAAAUAAAAAUAGUUCACAAUAAUUUAUUAUUUAAAAAACUCCCUGAAAUUUAAAAUUAUUGUUAUAAGUAUACCAUUAAAUUAUACAGAAUUUAAUUUUUCUUUCAAAUACUACAGUUAAUAAGGAAAGAGAAUAUAGUUCAUAUCAAUAAAACUUUAAAAAAGAAAUAUUGUUUAAUUAGUUAAUUUAAAAAUCAAUAGCGUCUAAAAACGGUCAGAAUGAAAUAUUAGAUUUUGUAAGAUUUCAUUAUUCUAAAAAAUAAAAUAUGACCAUGCUUAAAAAUUUUAUUAAAAAAGUUUUAAAUUUUAUAUAAAAAUAAAAAAAUAGUACUAAAAAUUUUUAUAAGCAAAUUUAAAUAUUAAUUAGUAAAUUUUUUUUGUAAUAUUUAUAUGUAUUUUCAUUCUUAUAAAUACUAUUAAAACUUUUUAAAAAAAUUUGAAUGCUAUUUAAAAACAUUAUUAAAAAUAAAAUAUUAUAUGAAAGUUAAAAUGAUCUAAAAACAUAUUUUAAAAAUUUAAAUACUUUAUAAAAUAUUUAAAACUGUUUAAAAAUUUCUAAACCCUAAAAAAAUAAUAAAAUAUAAUUCUUUCUAAGAAAUCAACAAAAAUAUAUUUAUAAUUGAACUCUCAACAAAAUUGUGAGAAAUAUUUAAAUUUUAUGAAAUUUUAUACUUAAACUGUCAAUAAUAGAAAAUUGCCUGAGUGACAUGGGAUAAGAGGUUCAACAUUUCUGGAUCACAUUGCAUUUAAGGCGGGUCUUUAGGGUUAUACUUUAGUUUUUUAGAACAUUUUCCACAAUUUGCCAUCAUUACUUGUGAGUGAUUUGUGGGGUAAGAGGUUGAACACUUCUGGAUCACAUUGCAUUUAAGACUGGUAUCAUUCAUAAAUUAUAUAUCUACAACAAGAAUGGUAGCCUCUUAUAUUAUAUUCAUGUAUCUAUUUUGCAUCUUUCAUUAUAAUAUGAUUUAGUAAUUUUAAUAUUUUUAUAGAAUAAUAUGAUUUAAAUUUUUUUGUAUUUUUCGUAAAAAUUAUAAUAAACUUACAAAAUGAUUUAAUGAUAUUUAAUUAUUAACGGAAAAAUUAUAUCAUAUAUAUUCUGUAUAUAUUAAGAUUCUGAAUUAUUAAUUAUAUAUCUACAUAUUAUAAUAAAUUCAUCUUUCAAAAUUUUCCUAAACUAUAUUCACAAUAUUAUAAAUAUAUUAUAUCAAAAAUAUUCUUUCAAAUGUUUUUUAAUGUUUAAUAAUAAAUUAAUUUAUAAAAUAUUCUUUCAAUAAAUUAACGUGAUGAGAUCGUUAAUUAGGUGCUUGGAUUUGGUGAUGGGGACGAAGAGAAAAGGGAUGGAAGUGAAGACAAAUGUUGGGAAAUUGAAAGGGUUAGCGAGGGAGGCCAGCGUGAAAGGUGGUUCUACGGAUAUGAACCUUCAAGCUUUUGUGGAUGAUGUUACUAAAGGUUAUUGCAAGUAAAUUUAAAAAUGUUUUUUAAUUAUUUUUUGUUAAAAAAUAUUUUUUUUUCUAUGUGGCUUUCCACAUUAGCAUGCUACCAUGUGGUAACUUCUAGUGAUUUCCGUCUGUAAUAUUAGACAGGUUAACAGUUAAACCAUUCAACUGACAAAUUUCGUUAAAGGAAGAGGUCAAUUAAUUUUUUUUGGACUCAUUGAGUACUCAAUUGGUGCAUUUUUUUAUAAAGACUAAAUUAAUUUUUUUAAUUUGUUAUUGCUGAGGGCUACAGUAAUAAAAAGUUUUGAGGUAAAAUUGGAAUAACGUCCCAAAAAUCUAAUACUUAAUUUUUAAAAUUUUAUCAUUAAUAAAUAUUUGUCUUAGUGAUUAAGUAUUUGAGUCGUGUUUAUAAGAUAUUGUAUUCAAGUUCCUACGUGAAUGGAUUGUUAUUAUUAUUAUUUUUUAAUUUUUGAGUUUGAGUCCAUUUCGAACUCUGGAAAAAGGUGGUUACUUAUCUGAGAUGGGGUUAGUGCUUAGUAGAUUUGGAUUUGGUUUAUUUUAAAAUUUAUUAAUUAAUUUGUUAAAAAAUUAAAUUAGUUUUUUCCUAAUUUUUGGCUCACCGUUCUUUCUCUUGUUUUUCUUUAUGCUUUCUUUUUCUUUUCUUUUUCUGUUACCUUUCAAAUCACGUCGAUUUGUUCCUAUUUCGCUUUUGAGUUUUUCUUUUCUUUCCUUUACGCUCCUCUACGAUCGUGUCUUAAUUCCUUCAUUAUUUUCUCUUUGUUGGCGUUGCUCGUUCGUAAGUGGGUUAGUUUCCGUUUUGAUGUAUUUUUACGUGGUUAGUAAAAGAAAUGUGUUAAUUUUUGGAUUAUGGAGUUGAUCGUUUUUAAUCAAUUCUCCAGUAAGUUGACUCGUUCGCUGUUAUUAUGUCCUAGGGUAAAGGAUUAACUCUGAUUUGGGCCCGUGUGGUUGUGUAGAUUUUUCAUGUGAAUUCGUUUGGUAUUUUUAGGAUAAAUCAUUCUUUAAGUCGUAUUGCUACCAUCGCUAAUGUGAUGUUUUAAUUUAUGCAUUUAGGAUUUGAUAGUCUUAUGGGUGUUUUCGUAUAAAAAUCAAACCAAGUGUGUAACGAAAAACCCGACAACAACGAGCGACGAAAGUCAAAAAAUUGCACUGUCGACACCACACGGCCGUGUGUCGGGCCGUGUGACAAGCCGUGUUUCAGACCGUGUGCGACAUAUUGUUUGGGCUAGUUGAGCCGUGUGGAACACACAGGUGUGUGUGAGGAUGUGUGCCACGCCAUGUGAGCCACACGGGCUGGCCAUUUAGGCCGUUUGAGACCAAAAUACUAAAUUUUUCCCUAGGGUUAUACACAUCGUUAUGAUCGAUCGUAGGCCUUUCGUGGGGUCGAUAUAUAAUCAAAUAGACUGUAAAGUAUGAAAUCCGGUCAACUAAUAGUAUAAAUUCUGAUAUCUGUUCAUAUAUUUGAGAUGUUAUUUGUUCAAUAAACCUUGUAAUAGGCUAUGAGAAACUUGAGAAAUAUUAUGUAUGCUUUGUAUCUGUUAUGUCAUACAUGUAUAACUGUAUUAUGUCUGAUUUUGUUCUAUUCUUUUCUGUAUUUGCAUUUGGGGUGGGUUAUAUUAUGUGGAGGAAGUGUUUCUUUGAAUGGCGAUAAUUCGCCUAUUACACUGGCAGCUCAGCUACAAAUAUUCUGAAAAGUGUUAUAUCGACACUAAAUGGUGUGUAAGGUUGGAUGAGUGUUUCAUACCCCAUAUGGUGUGUUGAGCUGGUCGGAGAUAGUGUGUAGCAGAUGGGGGUAGGAAUAUAUGUUUGUAUCUGUACUGCUCUGAUAUGAAUAUGUUCUGCUAAAUCUAUCUGAUAUAAAUUAACUGUUUAAAGUUAUUUGUUAUACAUUGAGUUUUGUAAACUCACUUUCUGUUUGUUUGAUAUUUUUAGGUAACCCUCAGACUUUGGCAAAUUGGUGCGAAGGAGCUCGGUUAAAUUGAUUUAGUUUCAUCAUCUAUUAUAAUCAAAUUUUGUGUUAUUGUGUUUCAUUAUUUUUGAACUUUUGGGACUUUUUGGACUGUUUUGGUUUUUGAGAUUUUAUUUUCAAUUUUUGCAUGAUAUUAUUAAAAAUGUUUUAUCGGAAAUGUCUGUUUUCUUGAAAAACAACUGAUUUCAAAAAAAUAAACUUAGUUUUCCAAACAUAAUGAUUUGAGAAUUUCCGCUGCUAAGUAUUCAUUUUAGAAAAUGUAAGCAAACAUCGUUUUCAACUACAAAGUUAAGUUAGAUGUAUUUUCUCUUAAAUCGAGGUUUAAGUAAUAAAAGAUUAUGUCAUUUUUCCAAAUUUUACGAAAAAUUGGAUUUACAAUUGUUUUAUGUAACAUCUCUAGAUUUGGCCAUAACGUCUAAGUCGGAUUUCGGGCGUUACAUUUUGUGAUAUCAGAGUCAGGUUGCAAAACUCGGGCUGUGAAAUUUUCGGUUCAAAAUUUUGUGAAAACUAUUUUUCGAGUAAAGUUCAUUUCUGCAUUAAUUUGAAAAAUUAAUUAUAUGAAGUAUCGAGUCUCUAACGUUGAUCCUGUAAGUACUUUUGACUUAGAUAAACUUUAGUUUAGAAAACUCUGAAAUGAUUAGAACUAUACUUGGAUAGUUAGAGACUGAAACAUCUUUAUAAAUUCUUUUGAUAACUUUUUGAGAACAAAAUAUCUGCUAAUAAAUACUAAAAUUGAUACAUAAAAUUCGUAAUGUAAGUAAUAUAUACGAUGAGUACUUGUGGAACAUGUGGAUGCGUUACCCGUAGGCGUGGCGGGCGCCGAAGAGGGGCUCGAGCUGAGUCAUCCUCGAUGGGUACCUGAUAGGCUAUUGCUGGAGAGAGCAAUAGUCUUGAGAGAAGAAAUGUUGAAGAUCGAAGUCAAAAUCUGACCUAUAAAGCCUUUAAUUGCUUGAAUGAUAAGCAUUUCUAAACUAAAAAGAUUACCGAUUUUUUCAGGAAUUUGACCUGCAGACAUAGUUGAAACAUCAAGGUGUUAAAUUACCUAUUUUGUUAGUGUAAAUCAAAGAGGCGUUUUAUUUUUUUCGUUUUGAAAUAAUAUGGAUAUGUUAGAUUCUAAUCAUAUUUAAGUAUAUAUUAGUUCUUGAAAGAAAGAGUUCUUAUUUUUGGUAUUUAUAUUGCAAAUAUAUUUUUUUAAAUUUAAAAAAGGGGGGGGGCAAAUGUGUUUAAAACUAAAGACAUCAAGGAAAAGGCAUACCUUCUAGGUUAUUUAACCCCAAGUAUAAUUGUUUAAGUUGUGUCAAAUUCCCAAUGCUUUUUGGAAUGAUCCCACUAAAUUGAUUAAUAGACAAUUCCAAAAUUUGAAGGUUGCAGCAUUUGUCUAUACUUGAUGGAAUAGAACUUGAUAAUUCAUUUCUACUCAAGUAAAGCUCUUUAAGCUUGGGAAGAUGGACACACUAAAUUGAUUAAUAGACAACUCCAAAAUUUAAAAGAUAUUCUGGCUUCGCCCUUAAUAAAAUUUUUGGAAAAAGAUUAAAAAAAAGUUAUACGGUAAAUGAAAAAAAGAAGAAAAUAACUUGAUGUCCAAAAGCUACCAUAAACAGUAAUUCGUGGGAAGGCUUGUUGCUCAUUUUAUUGGUUUCCAUUUUGAUUUUGCAAAAGAAGUUUGAAUUUUGAAGAGAGCAUACUACGUGAGAGCAAAAGAAAAAAUAUAGUUUAUUAAUUUUUACGAAUACCGACAUAUUAUAUAUACGAUUAAAAUUCAGAAUAGAUUAAAAAUGUUCAAUUAAAGAUAAAAUUAAAUGUGAAUUAAUAACCACAAGUCUACUCAUUACUCAUUACUCACCGUCUCUGUUAAAAAUGUUGGAUGUUGUUCAGCAACCUUUGUUUGAUUUUCUUCAGCUCAACCACAACAUCUUUCAUAUCUUUUCUUUCUUCUGGUAACUCAGCUGAACAAUUCAAAGCCAACUCCAUGAUAGAUGAAAUGCAAUUUGCUUUAACAACAAAGUACUCAUCGUCUCUUCUUAGUAAAUCAACAUCUGCAAUUUCUAUCGCUCCUUUAGGCAAUGAACUUUCCAUCCAAUGCCUUAUAGUCUCUUCUUCAACAAAAACAUUAUCAGUUGGCUUUUUCUUUGUAAAAGUUUCUAUAAGGACGAUCCCAAAACUAUAGACGUCAGAUUUUAUAGAAACAAUUCCUGCCGAUCCAAAUUCUGCAUUUCAAGUAUAAUUAGAACAUCAUUCAUCCUCAAUUAUUUCUAAAAUGCUUAUUCAAAUAUAUAUCCUCAUACACAUGAAACAAAAAUAUAAAAUGCAAAUUAGGAAAAUAAUCAUACAAAAAUAAAAAUGAAUUCACCUGGUGCCAUAUACCCGAUAGUUGCAAGAGUCAUGGUUUGCUUCAUUACUUCACCUUCCCCCAACAAUUUGACAAGGCCAAAAUCUCCAACAUGUGCAACCAUGUCUUCAUCUAGUAAAAUAUUGCUUGGUUUUAUGUCACAAUGAAUUGUAGGUGUUGGAUGUCCAUUGUGGAGGUGUUCUAUAGCUACCGCAACAUCUAUCAUUAUGUCGACCCUUUGUAUGAUAUCAAGGAAACAAUUUUCAGAAUGUAACCAUUUCUCAAGGUUUCCAUUAGACAUGUAAUCAAGCACCAAGGCUUUGAAGCCAACACUUGAGCAGCAAGUAACGACCUUCACAAUAUUACGAUGAACUACAUUACGCAUAGCAUCACAUUCAAUGUCAAAACUCCUAAAUGCUCCCUCUGUUUGCAAAUUGAAAACUUUUAUUGCAACUUCCAUUCCAUCCGAAAGCCUCCCUUUAUAUACAUAUCCAAAACUCCCUGAACAAAGCAUAUUGCUUUCCUUAAAUCCAUUAGUUGCUCGUGAAAGUUCAGCAUGUGAAAUUCUUCUCGGUGUUUUCAAAGACAACAAAUCAUCUUUAAUUGGUAGAGUUGUACUCCUUCUUUGGCAUCUUCUAUACAUAAUAGUUAAGACUAUUAGUACUACGACAACACCAAUUGUUGGUAAACCAUACCUAAAAGCAUGCAAUAUAAUCAUUUGGGAGUUUUUGUGGAUGUCGUUUUUGCAAGGUGGAACUAGAAAUCUAUGUGGACCACAAAGUGCAUAAUUCUUCAUGAAUGAUGUGCUAGAAAAGUUUGAAAAACAUCCUUUGCUGGGAAUUUCCCCUUCAAGUCUAUUGAAAGACACAUUAAAAUACUUUAGAUAUAAAAGCUUUUCCAAAGAUUUGGGAAUGACUCCAGAGAGAUUGUUAUUGCAUAAAUCCAAGAAUUCCAAACUAAUCAACCCAUCAAAUGAUUCAGGGAUAUGACCAUGUAGUAUAUUAUUUGAUAAAUCUAAUGAAACCAAAGUUUGAAGACCCCCAAAUGUGGAUAAGAUAUCACCCGUGAGAAGAUUCCUAGAUAAAUUUAGUUUCAGUAGACUCCUCAAAUUUCCAACAUCAAUAGCGUGUGAAUUGUGAAGAUGGUUUGAUGAUAAAUCUAUUUCUAAGAUAUCUUUAAGAUUCCACAAAGUUGAGGGAAUUGCGGAACUCAAUUUGUUGGAAUCUAAGCAAAGAUAUCCCAAAGAAGUAAUAUUACCUAAACAAGAGGGUAUGGAUCCAUGCAGCUUAUUCAACCCUAAACACAAGUUGUAUAGUCUCUCCAAACCACAGAGGCUUUCUGAGAUGGGCCCUCCUAAUUUAUUAGAGGAAAGAUCUAGACCUUGGAGAUUUCGCAGUCCUCCUAUUGAUGUUGGAAUGAAUCCACUUAAUUUAUUAGAGCCAAGUUCUAAACCGAACAUAUUGGUUAAGUUACCUAUUUCCAUAGGAAUAAUGCCUUGAAGCUCACACUCUUCGGCAUAAAAGUAUUGAAGGGAUUUUGAAAGGUUCCCAAUAUAAGUAGGAAGAACGCCACUCAAUGGAUUUCCUGAAACUUCUAUGUCUUUCAAAUUCUUACAAUUCGUCAAAGAAGAAAGAAAGCUCCACUCAUGAUCAGUAGCAGAUCCUGUGAUCAAAUUAUUGUCAAAGAUUUUGAGCACUUCAAGGUGUUUUAAGCUGCAAAGCAUUCUAGGGAUUGGGCCAGAGAAUAAGUUUUGUGACAAUUCUAGUUCCUUAAGCAUGGAAGCAUUGGAGAUAGAGUUGGGAAUGUUUCCGCUAAGUUUAUUUCUCCACAAUAAAAGAAUCUCAAGCUUUGGAGCAUUGGUGAUGGGUGGUAAAUUACCUGUAAAAUAGCAUCUUUUAGUAUACAUAUUCAUUGAAUACCAAAUUUACAAAAUAUAUAAUACAUUAAAAUAAAAACUGUACAACUUUAAAUCAAUUAAGAAUAGAAUUUUGGCAUGGAAAAAUGUGAUGAAAUCACUUAGAAAGUUGAGACAUAAUAAGAAGUUUUAAGUAGUAAUUAUUCCUUGUGAUUUGUAUAGAAAAAACAUAUAAUACACUAACAAUUUUUUAAAAAUAAAAAUAAAAGUUUGGCAUGAGAAUGUGGCAUCUAAUCCAUCUUAAAAAUGAGUCUGACACUGAAUAAUAAUUAGUUAUGAUUUGGGAAAAAAAUGUUAAAGCCAUUGUUUUUAAUGUAAACUGGUAUGAUUUUUAUCUAUUGGGUAUAUUAUUUAUUUUUAUUAAAUUAUAGUGUAAAAUUUAAAGAUUAUUAUUUGCUCAAAAUUUUUGUAUUUUUCGUAUAUUUGAAAUUUAAUCUUUAUAUUUUUUAUUUUCUGUGAUUUAGUCUCUCUACUUUUUGAAUUGUAAAUUUUAGGUUUAUUUAUUAAUGCUGUUAAAAAGUUUUUGUGUUAGUAUGGCAUUUUGAAAAAUAAAAUAAACUUGAUAUCUAUGUUUUUAAUUAUUCCAAAUAUUGUUUUACUAUUUCAAGAUAAAUUAUUUGUGUCUAGACCAAUAUCUUAAGAACUAUUAUUGCAUGUUUAAUUAUUCUAAAGAAUUGUCGAUUGAGUCUUAGCUUGAUUGGCAUGUGCAUUGUUGCCAAUGUAGGAGAAUGUGGGUUCAAGUAUGCUGAAGUGUAUUAUCCUUCUAUUUAUGAAUCAAGGAGUUGGCAAAGUAUUAUAUUUUGAUAUAUUUUAGAAUAUUAAAAAAUUAUUAAAAUAUUUUUUUAUAAAAAUUGGUUGUACCACAAUAUACAUCAAAUUUUUAAUUUUUUUAAAAAUAUUAGCGAAUUUAUAUUUUAUUUCAAGUUACACAAUUUUUACUAGUUUUUAACUUUUUUUUAAAAAUUUUUAUCGUCUUUCAUAAUUUCUAAUAAAUUUUUAUAUAUUUUUGACAAUAUUUAACAAUUUCUAACAAUUUUUAAUAAUUUUAUUAUUAAUUACAAAUUUAAAAAUUAACACAUUUUUAUUUUUUAAAACAAUUUUAUAUUUAUAAUGUAGUUGUUUUUUUUAUAAUUUUAUUUGAAAAUUUAAAGCUUUUUUGGUUUUUUUAAGAUAAUGAUGCCAUCAUGAUGUCAUCAUAUGCCACAUGGCAAUUUAUGAUUAGUUGGAUAUCUCAAUCUAUUUUUUUAACGUCCAAUUGACUAAACCAAGAACACCUGAUAAUGUUAGAGACUACACUAGAAAUGCUUGAUAAUAUUAGGUACUAAAGUGGGCAAAAACUCAUUAAGGACCAAAGUAAAAAAAAAAAAAGAGCAAUAUGCUGUAGGGAAUAAAUGCAUGAAUUUUGAGAAACUUUUGAACUAAUAAUUACAUAGUAAUUAUUAGUGAAUUUGUUAUUUUAAAUAUUUUUAUUACUUUUAGGAUUUAUCAUAUGUAUGGAUAAGAAUUUUGGUUUUACUAAAAUAUUUGGUUAAAUAAAUUCAUAAAAAAAUUUAGCAUCCUUAUAAAUAACAAUUUUGAUUCUAUUAAAAAAAUCAUUUUAAAAAAUAUAUAAUAAAAAUUUAAAAUUUAUAUUGAAUUACUUUAUACGUAAAUUAUUAUUAGAAACGUUAUCAUACACAUAUGUAUAUGAGAACUACGUAUUUAGAACAUAAAUUUAUGUUUGAAAAUAACUUAUGAUAAAUAAUGAAAUGUAUAAUUUGAAACUAUUUAAUAAUAACACAUGGCAUAUCUACCAUAUUAAAAAUAAAAAUAGAUUAAAUUGUAAGUAAAACAUAAUUUAAACAUAUGGAUACAUCAAAUUAAGAAUACUAAAUGAAUACAGUUAUUUAUGAUGAUGUUGUUGUCAAUUCUUAAGUUGGUGUCGAGUUAAUUUGUGACAUCAUAAUUUUAAGUGAUAAAUUUAAAGUUUUAUGUAUUGAUGUGGAUUCAAAUAUCACCAUAACUUUUUUAAAAUAAAAAAUUAAAUUCAACACAAUAAAAUGAAACAAAUUCAACACAAUGUUUUUGGAGUUUGCAAAAAAUUAAAGUGAAAAACAUACCUUCUAAUUUGUUGUCAUAUAGAACUAUUUCUUCGAGCGUAGUUGAAUUAAAAAUACUUGAUGGAAUCUGGCCUGCACACAUAGUCGAAAAUUGAAGUGAAAAAUACACCUUCUAAACUGUUCAACUAAAAAUACUUUAAGCAUAUUUUUUUUUCCAUCAAAUUAACUAUUUUGCCUUGAAUGAAAUAAAAUGCUCUUACUUUUGUUAUCUAUUACAAAUCAAACUCUUUUGUGAAUAAAAUAUUACCAGAUAAUUCAUUCCAACCCAGGUUAAGCCCUUCAAGCUUGGGAAGUUGUUGACACAUAUCAUUAGGCAAACUACCUGAUAGGCUAUUGCUGGAGAGGUCAAUGGUCUUCAGAGAAGAAAUGUUGAAGAUCGAAGUUGGAAUUUGACCUGUAAGGCCUUUAGUUGCUUCAAUAUCAAGCAGUUCCAAACCAAGAAGAUUACCGAUUUCCUUAGGAAUUUGACCUGCAGACAUAGUUGAAAAAUCAAUGUUUUUUAGCAUAUAUUUUUCAUCAAAUUAACUAUUUUUCUUCGAAUGAAAUAAAAAGUUCUUCCUUUUGUUAUCUAUUACAAAUUAAACUCUUUCAUAAAAAAAUACUUUAAAUUCAAGAAAUUAAGGAAAUUGAUUACCUUUUAGAUUAUUAAACCCUAAAUAUAAUUCCUGGAGUCGUGUUAGAUUUCCAAUACUUCUUGGAAUGAUCCCCAUAAAUUGAUUACCGAACAAUGACAAAUUUUUAAGGUUGUUGCAUUUGCCCAUGCCAAAUGGAAUGUAACCAGAUAAUUCAUUCCAACUCACGAAAAGCCCUUCAAGCUUGGGAAGAUGUUGACACAUAUCAUUAGGCAAAGUACCUGAUAGGCUAUUGCUGGAGAGAUCAAUAAUCUUCAGAGAAGAAAUCUUGAAGAUGGAAGAUGGAACCUGACCAGAUAAUUGAUUGAAUCCUAAGUUCAAGAUCCCUAGAUUAGACAUGUUAACAAGUGUUUCAGGGAUUGUGCCUGUAAAGUUAUUAUUUUUCAUUUGCAGCCUUCGAACUCUCUGUAAAUUCCCAAGCCAUGAUGGAAUUUCCCGAUUAAGACGGUUGUAGCUUAAUUGAAGGAUCCUCAAACGAUGCAAUUGGCCCAAUUCUUUAGAGAGAUGGCCAUAGAAAUGGUUGCUACUCAAGUCGAGAGAGACUAGAAAUGAAAGAUUUCCAAGGUGUGGAGGGAUAAUACCCCUAAGAUUCAUGCUUGUAAGAUUCAAUGCUAUAACUCUUUUAUGGAGGAUGCCACAAGAAACACCAAUCCAAUUGCAAACAGAGGUUGAGGCUGUCCAAUUGUCUGCCAAGACAUUUUGAGGACCGGCAAUGCGAUCCUUAAACUCGAGAAGUGCAAACUGAUCAGAGUUGAGAUUCCUGGCUGUCAUAGCCAAGCGAAGUACGGAACAUGGUAUGAAUAAAGCUAAGAGAAGAUGAAAGCAAGUGUUGUAGUUCAUGAUUGCAAGACGGAAUAAGGCAAGAAAAAAGGAAAAAAAAAGUAGGAAAAGGGAAGUUAAGUUGAUAAAAUAGUUUGGAUGAUGAAGAAAAGCCCAGAGAGCAUGCUUUAAUAUGUUUCAACCCUCGCACACUUGAUAAACUUGAUAAAUUUAAGACUACCCUAAAAAUUAAAAAGGAAAACAAAGUUUUGAUGAGAUUUCAAAAAAAAUGUCAAGUAUUCUUCUUUUAAAAAUACGUACAAAGAAGCGAAUUUUCAAAAUUUCUCCUAAAUUUUCUUCAAAUUACUCCACAUAAUCCAUUAAAAAAACUUAAAAAAUAUAUUUUAUUAAUUACUAUAUAUUCUUUUGUUUUCAUAAUAAUAAAUUGUUUAAAAUAUGCUAUUAGUGGCCGUAAUUUAAAGUUUAAAAAAAAAUCCAAUCCUCCUUUUUUUUAAUUUAAAAAUUCUAAUCCAAUCAUUUUUAAUUCCAUUAAAAAGUUUUCAACUUAAUAGAUUUUUUAUUAUCAAUCUUAUGCAACAUUAUAUGAAGGCAGUCUACUCAGCAUAUAUCCAAGUUUACAGAUUUUAAUAGAAAAUACUUACAAUCCUAAUGGUAGGACUAAGUUUUUUAAACUAGAAAAGUAAAAAAAAAAAAAACUUAAUUUUUAACUUUUUUAAGUACAAGGAUUAAAUUUUAAAUGUUGUCAAAGUACAAGCACUAACAAAAUAUUUUGAUCUAAUAAAUGUAAAAAAGCAUUUUAAACAAAAGAAGGUUGAAAUAAUCUAUUUGUCCUUAUACUUUGAUAAAAUUUGAGAUACCAUAAAAUUUGUAUCUUUUUUCGAAUUAUUUAAUGACAUUUCAACAUUUUCAUUCAAAAAAAAAUAUCAUUUUGAAUUUGAUCUUUUUCAAGAUGAAAUAUUGAAAUGAUGUUAAAUUAUUAGAAAGAGAUACAAGUUUCAUGGUGUCCCAAAUUCAUUUAAUCUUAUCUCUCUAAGAAAGCUGAAUUAAGAUAUUAAUGACAUCAUUUGAAACAAAGUUUUAGGUCAAAUUAUUCAUCUAUUCCUUGUAAUUGUUCUUUAAGGUGAAUUUCAUUAUUAUUCUUUUAUUUUCUUUGGCUUAAAUACACAAUUACUCCUAAUUUUAUCACAUUCUCCUUAAUUGGUAUUUAUAGUUUAUAAAAUUUUAUAAAUAUAUUAUUUUUUAAGAAAUUAUAAGAAGAUUACAAAAAUUCCAAAAUAAUAUAAAAAAGCUAAGAAAAACCUAGAAAUUCAAAAAAAAAAAUCAUGUUUUUACAAAUUGGAAAAUACCUAAAUUUACUUUUCAGCCCGUCCGAUGCUAUGAAAGAAGAAGAAAGAGAGUCUUUGCUAACAUUUUUUUUUCUUCGUCAUCUCUAUGUUUCUUGGCAAAUACAAUGAAAGAAGAACAAAGAAAACUGUUGGCUAUUUAUUUCCCAAUAAUCCUGAAAUUACUUGCCAUAGGCGUAGAAUUUGCUAACCAAUUUUCAAGCAAUCUGACAUGAAUUCUUGUUAAGUAUGACUCCUAUUUUCAGUCAAAUUUGAGAAAUAAUCUUCUAGUUAAUUCUGUUUAUUUGUUUCAAUCAAACACUGAUUAGUUUAGAUUAUUUUAUUAUUAUUUGACAUAUGAAUUUAGCCUAUAAAUAGGUUAUUUUACAACCUUAGAAAAUACACCCAAUAGAGUUUAGAACUCAUAACAUAUUUAGAGAAUUUUGUGUUUACGUUUUGAGAGUUCUUUGUUUUCGGAUUUUCGGGGUUUAGUUUUUAUCUCCAUCUCUUGUAUUCUUUGUUCUUUUGCCAUUAUAAUAAAAUUAUCUUUACCCGUGGUUUUUUAUCCUUUUUGGAGGAGUUUUUUCACGUUAAAUUUGUGUGUUCAAUUUCUCAAUUUAUUCCGCUAUUUUGUUACUUGUUGCUUAAUCGGGUCGAUCCCUAACAAUUCUCAAUCACAAUUAAUUGAAUUCAAGAUAUAUUUGGAUGAGAACACAAAUAUUUCAAUUUUACCACAAUCCAAUGUUUGGGAUGAUUUGGGAUAAGAACUCCAACAUUUUAAGAUCACAUUUUCUUUUAUAAUUUCAGGCUUAUCAACUAUUUUGAAAACAACAAAACGUCUUACACCAAAAACUAAAAAAUUAAAACGUCGACAUUAAAUUUGUUGGUAUGCAAUCAAUUUUAAGAUGGGUCUUGGAGUUAUAUAUCACUUUAGCAUUGACUUACUUUUCUACUCUUAGUCUUCUCCAAUAAGUUAAAUAUUUCAAUUUUAACAGCACUGACAGGUCUUUGGGGUAGGGUCCAGCAAAACUCAAUAGAAACAGAUGAUAUAGGCAGAGUUGGCUCGGCCAAGUCGAGUCGACUUGUUCAAAUUAGUUAAAUUAGUAAAUUUUAGGGUGCAGUUAGAACUUUUUUUUUUUUUUUGAGAUGCUAAUAUUAAAAAAUUUUAGUUGCUAAAACAAAAAAUUUAUAUUUAAAAAGGAAUAAAUUAAAUUAUUAAGUUUUUCAAGUUUCCAUUUAAUCAAAGGUUAAAAGGACUAAAUUGAAGCUUUUUAUUUUAAAGAAAGGCUGAAUGACAAAUUGCCCAAAGCCCAUGCCCCUAGCUAUAUGCCCCUGGUAAAAUCAAUUUUAAAAUUAGUUAUAAUAGUUGAAGCGAAUUGAUUAUUGAGUAUUGAAAUACAUAGUUCAACAAAAUAAACAAACUGACAAAUUUUGACCAAAAAAAAAAAUCAAAGGUGAUAAUAAUUAAAUUAUAAAAUUUAAAUUGAGAAAAUAGGGGAUUGAAUUUAUAAUUUUUAAAGUAUAAAGAAUGAAUUUAUAACUAACAUCAUAUUUUAACCACAUAAUAAAAGUAGUUAUGGAGAGGAUCAUGUAAAAUAAUGACCUGAAUAAUUUUAAACGUCUCAUCCUUGCAAAAAUGAAAUAAUAGAAAAGAAAGAGUAAAGAGUAGCCAUUUUAUGAAAUCUAUAAUUCCAACUGUGAAUAAAAUAUAAAUUUUAUGAAUGUGGACAAGCCAUUUUAUUUAUAAUUUUCUGUGUUUUUCUGACUUUUUUUUAAGUCAUUUUCUUUGUUUCCUAACCAAAAAGUUUGCCCAUCACUUUCAAUAUAAAUUUAAAUCUAAAUUUUCUUUUUAAAAUAUAAGUUACUCGUCACAAUUCAUCUUUCGAAAACAAUUUGCCAUCACUUUAACAUACACUAACUUUUCUAUGAUUAGUCCUUGGUUUGCUUUGGGUGCAAUCUUCCAACUAGCCACAUCCUUGGUUUUACUUUCCAACAAUUAGUGUAUCACGGGUUUUGUUUUCUUUAAAAAAAUAUUUUUGUGGAUAUUAGGAGAUAAUGAAAAUUAUUUUACUAUUAAAUUUUAAUAAAACUGGAAAAUAAGUAAUGUCUUUUAAGUGAUCACAAUUAAACAUUAGAUUUUUAAUUUUAAAAUUUUAAAAUUUUUUGAUAAUUGCAUAAUUAAUAAGGUACCAAUUUUUUGAUAAUGCUAUAAUCUUCUCCACACAUAAUCGACUCUUGAGCAUGAUGGAUCUAGACCUUAUCCUGUAUUCUCGUACCACAAAUUGCUUCGAGUGUGGGUUCAAACAAUCACAAAUUAAACACAAAAUCAGAAAUGAUUUAUUACUUUCAAUAGCAAAGUAAUUCUCUCUCAAUAGAAACCAACAGAAUUGUAAUUCCGAAAAAUAAAAUUUAUUUUUUGAAAAUAUAUUCUCACUACUUCCUAGCAUAAUAACAAUAUUUAAAACUUAUGUCUUGUGUUAAUAGCUCUACCAGUACUAUCCAUUUAUAGAGAGAGACACAAGAAUCCUGGUUGAAUUAGUAAAACACGAGUAAUAUUUAUUUCAUAGAAAACAAUAUUCUACCCUAAGUAGAUCAAGUUUGGAUGACGCAUGGGUCGAAGUUCAAUCUAAGAGAAAAAAAUAAAGGAAUUUUCUUUGUAAAGAAAAUUUGAGAUUGUACUAUUUUCGAAGUUAUAAAUAAAAUUAUAAGCCAAACUUUCAAGUCAAUUUUUGACUCGAAUUUUGUACGUACAAAUUUCUAAUACACUUGGUGGGACAUUCUUUGACUUUUAUCUAUUCUCUCAGAAAGUUAAAAGUUAAAAGUUGCAUUAAACUCAAAGAAGAUAAUCAUUAGUAAACCAGCUCACAAGCCUGCUCAAGCUAAUCCUACAACUCGUUCCACUUCAUCAUCAAACACCAAUGUUCUUGCUUAUCCUUAUGGAAUUAAACAAAAGACAAAAGCUCUUUAAGAGUUAUUUGAACAGACAAAAGAUUCAGACGUGUUGAGAUGGAAAGUGACAAUGCAAUGUUGAUUGAAGCUAUUCGUAACCGGUUGGCUACAAUAAGUAGUGUUGCUGAAGUAAGACAGAUUCACGAUUGGUGUUCUAAAAAUUGGGAAGUCAAAUUUUGAUAUAUUUAGUAGAAUGCCAAAAAAGUUGUUGAUUGCAUAGCUAAGGCAGAUGGAGGAGUAAUUGAGCAGCUAGUUUUUUGGAAGAUCCUCCGCAUUUUGUGAGAUGUUGGCUUGAAGAAAAUAUUAGACAAUCGCUGGUGACUUAUGAUAAUUUUCAUUUGGACUGAUGCUCGCUUAGUUUUCUAAGGUUAUGUUCAACCAAAAAAAAAUAAUUUAAAUAUGUCUAUAUUAUCAUAGAGUUAGCAUUUAGUGUAUAAAAAAAUAGUGUAUAAAAUUUUUUCAAUUGCAGUUUAGUUCCACAAAUACUGACGAUGAACCUUAAAACGAAAAUGAAAAUUACAAAAAGAAAAACAAACCACAUCUAUUAUCAAACCAGCAAUCCGUGUCUAAACUUAAAUUAACAAAAUUCAUCAUGCAACUCGGUACACUAUUUUAUAAUAUAUAUAUUAGAUUUAUUCUUGAUGCACAUGUUUUAUUAUAGUUAAAAAUUAAAAUAUAUGAUUAACUGAGUUUUAGUUGAGUUAGUAUUGGUAUUAUAUCAGUGUAGAAAAAUGUGAGUUCAAUCGUACUUAAAUAUGUAUCCUCCAACUCAACAGUUGGGAAAAGGUUAUUGAUAAUUAAAUUACACCAAUUUUUACAAUAUCUAAAAAGCAUUCAUAAACAUAUUCAUAUUGAUGGGCUCUUUCAUUAUUAAACUUUUUUUCUCUCACAAGUAAAAGUACUUGUGGUGAGGAUCAUGUAAAAUAAUAAACUGAAUAAUUUUAAACGUCUCAUCAUUGCUAAAAUGAAAUAAUAGAAAAGAAGACAUUUUAUGAAAUUUACAAUUCCAACUGUGAAUAAAAUAUAAAUUUAUGAAUGUGAACAAGCCAUUUUAUUUAUAAUUUUCUGUGUUUUUCUUCUUUUUCUGACUUUUUUUUAGUCAUUUUCUUUGUUUCCUAACCACCAUGAAAUUACUUGUCACAAUUCAUCUUUUUAAAUGAGAAGCAUUUUCCACAAUUUGCCAUCACUUUAACAUACACUAACUUUUCUAUGAUUAGUCCUUGGUUUGCUUGUCACCAUGAAAUUACUUGUCACAAUUUUCCACAAUCUUCCAACUAGCCUCAUCCUUGGUUUUACUUUCCAACAAUUAUUGUAUCCUUCUCAUUACUUGUACUUACCCGACUGAUAAAAAAUUCACUGAUCAAAUUAGUUCAAAGUUUUUUUUUUUUUUCUAAAUCAUGUGAAUUCACGAGUUUUUUUUCUUUAAAAAAUAUUUUUGUGGAUAUUAGGAGAUACUGAAAAUUAUUUUACUAUGAAAUUUUAAUAAAACUGGACAAUAAGUGAUUUAUUUAAAGGGAUCACAAUUAAACAUUAGAUUUUUAAUUUUUUAAUUUUAAAACUUUUUGACAAUUGCGUAAUUAAUAAGGUACUAAUUUUGAGCGUUGUAGGAGUGCUAUAAACUUCACUACGCAUAAUCGACUCUUAAAUCCACCUUUUUCUCUAGAAUUAUAACAAAUUUACAAAAUGAUUUAAUGAUAUUUAAUUAUUGACCGGUAAAAAAAUUAUAUCAUAUAAAUUCCGAAUUAUUAAUUAUAUAUCUACAUAUUAUAACCAAUUCAUCUUUCAAAAUUAUUUCCUUAUAAUUAAAGCAAAAAUUAUAUUUAUAAAAUUCUAAAUAUAUUAUAAUUCUUGUAAAUAUAUAUAUUUAUAUAUAUAAGUUCAAAUUGUAAUAGAGUUAACAUUUAAUGUAUAAAAAAUGUCUUGAAAAUUAUUAUUUUUUUCAAUUCCAAAAGAACUAUUCCAUUUAUAGAACCAUAAAACUUUAAAAAUAUAAACUCUAUUAAAUAAAAAUAAUAAUAUAUUUAAACAAUAAAUAUUGACUUUAUUUUAAAUUGACAUUAUCUAAUUCUUUUUAAUAAAUAUAGCUAAGCUUUACAUUAAUAUACAUGAUUUAUUUGUUCGUGGUUGUUAUUAUUAUUAUUAUUAUUAUUAUUAUUAUUUCUAUGAUUUUUAUAUCAUACUUAUCGGACUACAAUCAUAACCAUGUCUAUUAUCAUUUGAUAAAAAAAAUUAAGUGUUGAGUAUAAUGACAAGGCACGUUACACUCUUAAGGGGAGAUCAAGGUUUGGACAAGGGAAGAAUAUCAUUUAAAUUUUGGAGACAACAUUCUUUAAAUGAGCAACCACAAACCCCGAUUAUGAACCAUAAAACGAGCAUGAAAAGUACCCAAAAAAACAAGUUUAUUAUCAAAAUAGUAAUCCAUCCAAGGAUUAAAUUAACAAAAUUCACCAUCCAACCGUGUAGACUAUUAUAUAUAUAUAUACCAUAUUUAUUCUUCAUGCAAAUGUUUAUUAUAUUUAAAAAUUAAAAUAUAUGAUUGAUUGAGUUUUAGUUGAGUUAAUAUUGAUAUUAUUGUCAGUGCAAAAGAAUAUGAGUUCAAUCAUGUUUAAAUACAUUUUAUACUCCAAUUUAGGAGUUGGAGAGGAUUCUCAGUAGUUAAAUUAUAUCAGUUUUUGUCUAUUUAAAAUUGAUUUAUAAAUAAUAUAAGUAGAAAAUUUUAUAAAAAUAUACAUACUCAUAUUGAUUGGCUUUUUCAUUAUUAGACAUUUUUCCCCAUAGGUAAAAGUAUUUAUCGAAUUCAAAUUUUGGGUUUUAAAUAAGGGUUUUCGGAUUUUUUUUUAACAUUUGUGAGAGUUUUUGCCAAAUUUUAUGUUUUCAAAAACGCAUAACUAAGUUGAUUUUUAAUUAGUUUUUCAAAUGAGUCAAUGUAAUUCCUUAAAAAUCUAGUGAUAGCGUCUAGCCUGGGUUUGGGGGUGUUACACUGACGUUACUAAAGUUAAUCUUAAUCUAUUUAGUCUAGAUCUGAACAUUAAUAUUCUCUUCCAAUAAAAAUAAAGAUCAUCAAAUUAUUACAAUUGUGAAGCCAGACAAUCAUAUUAAAUAAGCAUAAAACUUAAUAAAUAAUUAGCGAAGAUUGAAACAAUCAAAGAAAAAAUAAAUUAAUUAACUAAGAAAUAAGGAUCCAUUAUUGUUUCAAGAAAACAGAGUUUAGUUCAUAUUGAGUUGAGAAAACCAAAAAUUAGAUUCAAAACAAACUUGUGAUAAGGGGAACAAUGUCAACAGAUCAUAUUCAAGUUGUUCGACUCGAGAAAGCAAGAUUCGGAUUUGACCUGAAAAGAAGAAACCAAACAGAUUAGGAAAACAAGAAAAAAACAAAGAAAAAAAAAUAAAAUGAGAAAUUUAAGAAUAAAGAAUAAAUAUUAAAAAAUAAUAAAGAAAUAAAUAAAUUAUAGAAUAAAAAGUGGCAGAUGGAAUGAAUAAAUGAUGGAUAUGACAUAUAGAUGGAUAAGUGUCUGAUAACCCUUGAAAAAAAGUUAUAUUUUGUUAGGGAUCGACCCGAUUAAGCAACAAGUAACAAAAAAAGGGAAUAAAUUGAGAAAUUGAACACACAAAUUUAACGUGAAAAAAACCUUCCGAAGAGGAUAAAAAAACCACGGGAAAAGAUAAAUUUACUAUAAUGGCAAAAGAACGAAGAGUACAAAAGAUGGAGAUAAAACUAAACUCCAAAAACCCGAAAAUAAAGAACCCUCAAAACGUAAACACAAAAUUCUCUAAAUGUGUUAUGAGUUCUAAUCUCUAAUGUGUGUCAACUAAGGUUGUAAAAGAGCCUAUUUAUAGGCUAAAUUCAUAUGUCAAAUAAUAAUAAAAUAAUCUAAACUAAUCAGUGUUUGACUGAAAUAAAUAAACAAAGUUUAACUAAAAGAUUAUUUUUUAAAUUUGACUGAAAAUAGGAGUCAUACUUAACAAAUCUCCACCUUGACUCAUAUUUCUACAAUGCCAUCUUUGCCAAAGCCCGCUACGAGCCUAUCUUGAACUAUACAGGGAAUUAACUGAGUCGAAUCUGUGCUUAGAAACUGGAAGACUUCUAGCUUUCGACUUGUACACUGCCAAAUCAAAACUAACCCGAGUUUGAUUUUCACGAACACAGUGUCCUAACUUUUCAAAACCUGCAUCCAAAAGAGAACCUCUCUUCAAUGAAACGGUCAUACAUUUUUCCCUCCUAUGACCAAGUUGCCUCUGCUCCAAACGAGUUGACUUCGACUCUGUAACAGACGAGGGAUGUCCGAUUUCACCGGUCAUUGUAGAACCUUCCAGAAUAUAAAGACUGCCAUUUCUUUUACCUUUGAACAAAAUGAGAGCUCCACGAGAUACUUUAAUGCUGCUCGACUCGAUGUUGAUUCUGCAUCAUUUCAAGUCUAAAAUACUCAAGGAGAUGAGAUUCUUUCGUAAAUUAGGUACAUACCUGACAUCUGAGAGUGUCCUAAUCGUCCCAUCGUGUGUCCUAAUUUUAACAGUACCAACACCAAUUACCUUACUAGAUGAAUUGUUUCCCAUGCGCACAACUCCACCUUCAACCGAACUGUAUGUGGAGAACCAUUCUCUAUUGGGACACAUGUGGAAAGAACAUCCCAAAUCUAGGAUUCACUCGAACGUGAGCUUGGAGUUAUCACUCGUUGACACUAACAAGAAAUCAUCACCACUUUCAUCGAUCAAAUUAGCACUAGCUACAUCUUCCUCGUUACUCUCAGCAGCUCCUUUAUUUCGCAGUUUAUAACAAUUUGCUUUGACAUGACCUAACUUUUUACAAUAGUGACACCUUUUGUCUCGUUUCUUUGAUGCCAUCAAAAUGGAAGAUUGCCUAUCUGCCUUGCUAUCUAAAUGAAACUCAUUUUCGAGUUUGUCUCUACUCAACAAAUGACCCUUCACAUCUUCGAACGAGAGUUUGUCUCUGCCAUAGGGUCUCCUUGAAAGAUUUGUAUGAAGGGGGUAAAGAGCAUAAUAAUAGCAUAGCUUGAUCUUCAUCAUCAAUAUGAACCUCAAAGUUCUUUAAAUCAUUUAAAAGAAUAAUGAAUUGACUGAUGUGAUCUCUAAGAAGCUCACAUUCGUUCCUGCGAAACGUAAAUAGACGUUGUUUCAACAGUAAACGGUUAGCCAGAGACUUAGUCGCAUAAAGAGUUUCUAACCUUUUCCAUAAGGUGGAUGAGGUCUUCUCCAUCAAUACCUCCUGCAAUACCGUAUUCGCGAGGCACAACUGGAUUGCAGACAAGGCAUUUUCAUCAAGCUCUUCCCAUUCUGUUUUAUUUAGAUUCUCAGGCUUUUUUUGGUAACAACCUUUUUCAAACCGGAUUGAACUAGAAUUGCCAUCAUCCAAACUUGCCAUAGAUUGAAAUUGGUCUCACCAUCGAACUUCUCAAUUUCAAACCUUGUUGUUGCCAUAUCUGAAUGGGCUGAUUUAUGAAAAUUGAACUAGCUCUGAUACCACUUGUUAGGGAUCGACCCGAUUAAGCAACAAGUAACAAAAAAGGAAAUAAAUUGAGAAAUUGAACACACAAAUUUAACGUGAAAAAAACCCUCCGAAGAGGAUAAAAAAACCACAGGAAAAGAUAAAUUUACUAUAAUGGCAAAAGAACGAAGAGUACAAAAGAUGGAGAUAAAACUAAACUCCAAAAACCCGAAAAUAAAGAACCCUCAAAACGUAAACACAAAAUUCUCUAAAUGUGUUAUGAGUUCUAAUCUCUAAUGUGUGUCAACUAAGGUUGUAAAAGAGCCUAUUUAUAGGCUAAAUUCAUAUGUCAAAUAAUAAUAAAAUAAUCUAAACUAAUCAGUGUUUGACUGAAAUAAAUAAACAAAGUUUAACUAAAAGAUUAUUUUUUAAAUUUGACUGAAAAUAGGAGUCAUACUUAACAAAUCUCCACCUUGACUCAUAUUUCUACAAUGCCAUCUUUGCCAAAGCCCGCCACGAGCCUAUCUUGAACUAUGCAGGGAAUUAACUGAGUCGAAUCUGUGCUUAGAAACUGGAAGACUUCUAGCUUUCGACUUGUACAUUGCCAAAUCAAAACUAACCCGAGUCUGAUUUUCACGAACACAGUGUCCUAACUUUUCAAAUCCUACAUUGAAAAGAGAACCUCUCUUCAAUGAAACCGUCAUACAUUUUUCCCUCCUAUGACCAAGUUGCCUCUGCUCCAAACGAGUUGACUUCGACUCUGUAACAGACGAGGGAUGUCCGAUUUCACCGAUCAUUGUAGAACCUUCCAGAAUAUAAAGACUGCCAGUUCUUUUACCUUUGAACAAAACGAGAGCUCCACGAGAUACUUUAAUGCUGCUCGACUCGAUGUUGAUUCUGCAUCAUUUCAAGUCUAAAAUACUCAAGGAGAUGAGAUUCUUUCAUAAAUUAGGUACAUACCUGACAUCUGAGAGUGUCCUAAUCGUCCCAUCGUAUGUCCUAAUUUUAACAGUACCAACACCAAUUACCUUACUAGAUGAAUCAUUUCCCAUGCGCACAACUCCACCUUCAACCGAACUGUAUGUGGAGAACCAUUCUCUAUUGGGACACAUGUGGAAAGAACAUCCCAAAUCUAGGAUCCACUCGAACGUGAGCUUGGAGUUAUCACUCGUUGACACUAACAAGAAAUCAUCACCACUUUUAUCGAUCAAAUUAGCACUAGCUACAUCUUCCUCAUUACUCUCAGCAGCUCUUUUAUUUCGCAGUUUAUAACAAUCUGCUUUGACGUGACCUAACUUUUUACAAUAGUGACACAUCUCGUUUCUUUGAUGCCAUCAAAAUGGAAGAUUGCCUAUUUGCCUUACUAUUUAAAUGAAACUCAUUUUCGAGUUUGUCUCUACUCAACAAAUGACCCUUCACAUCUUCGAACGAGAGUUUGUCUCUGCCAUAAGGUCUCCUUAAAAGACUUGUAUGAAGGGGGUAAAGAGCAUAAUAAUAGCAUAGCUUGAUCUUCAUCAUCAAUAUGAACCUCAAAGUUCUUUAAAUCAUUUAAAAGAAUAAUGAAUUGACUGAUGUGAUCUCUAAGAAGCUCACCUUCGUUCCUGCGAAACGUAAAUAGACGUUGUUUCAACACUAAACGGUUAGCUAGAGACUUAGUCGCAUAAAGAGUUUCUAACCUUUUCCAUAAGGUGGAUGAGGUCUUCUCCAUCAAUACCUCCUGCAAUACCGUAUUCGCGAGGCACAACUGGAUUACAGAUAAGGCCUUUUCAUCAAGCUCUUCCCAUUCUGUUUUAUUUAGAUUCUCAGGCUUUUUUUGGUAACAACCUUUUUCAAACCGGAUUGAACUAGAAUUGCCAUCAUCCAAACUUGCCAUAGAUUGAAAUUGGUCUCACCAUCGAACUUCUCAAUUUCAAACCUUGUUGUUGCCAUAUCUAAAUGGGCUGAUUUAUGAAAAUUGAACUAGCUCUGAUACCACUUGUUAGGGAUCGACCCGAUUAAGCAACAAGUAACAAAAAAGUGAAAUAAUUUGAGAAAUUGAACACACAAAUUUAACGUGGAAAAACCCCUCCAAAGAGGAUAAAAAACCACGGGCAAAGAUAAGUUUACUAUAAUGGCAAAAGAACGAAGAGUACAAAAGAUGGAGAUAAAACUAAACUCGAAAAACCCAAAAACAAAGAACCCUCAAAACGUAAACACAAAUGGGUGUCAACUAAGGUUGUAAAAGAGCCUAUUUAUAGGCUAAAUUCAUAUGUCAAAUAAUAAUAAAAUAAUCUAAACUAAUCAGUGUUUGACUGAAAUAAAUAAACAGAGUUUAACUAAAAGAUUAUGUUUUAAAUUUGACUGAAAAUAGGAGUCAUACUUAACAUAUUUCAUGCCUUUAAACCUAACUAAUUGUUUGUACUUAAGUAUAUUUUUUUCUUUUUAAGACAUUGUAGCGAACAUUUUUAAUAUUGUAUUAGGACAUAGACUAUGUUGGAAUUAGGUGCUUUUAAUCUCUUGUGGUGGAGUUUUUGUGUGUUGGUAUGGCAGGAACAUGUUUUAAAACGAGGAAAUAAAUGAGUGAAGUUUUGUUAGGGAAAAAGUGCAAACAGUUUGCCAACACAGAUGUCGUGGCAAUGCCGGGAAGACCAAGUUCAUAUUUUUUGUGCAGCAAUCCCGGUUCAAACUCAAACUUGUAUGAGAUAAAUCCCCCUAAAAGAGGAGAAGAUAAUCACAUUGCUGUUAGCUGACCCUAGCCUAAUCUAUCUAUUAAAGCCAAUGAAAAGGAUCUCACAAAGGGUAGAAAAAAGUGAGAGAGAUCCUUAGGGAUGAAUAAGGGUUUGGCUGCGCAAAAGAACAGAAGUCGAAGGGAAUCAUUCUUAGCCAUCACAGAACGUUGUGCUGCCAAAGUGUGGACUAGGCAAGUGAAAGAUGUUUCCAAAAGUUCUUCUGUUAUUUCCAUUAGUGUUCCUUCCAAAGAUUGAAUUGAAGUAGUUGAACACAAUGUCGGAUAAUAUUUUGGUUUGAAAUUUUAUUUCCCAGCUUAUGAGCUAAAUCUCAUAAGGUUAGGAUUACUUUCGAUGAAACCUUAAAUUUUUUUAUAGAUGAAGUAUAUAUCUAAUUUACAUUAUUGUUUCAUUUGAUUGUUCUAAUUUCUUAAUUAAAAUGCAAAUGAUCUCUAGACAUAGAAGACUGUUCGCAUACUUAUAAAUUGAUUGUAAUUAUAAAAGGGUUGGAUUAAAAUUAAAUGAAAUGAGCAGGUAUUUGAUAGACACUUGUAGUCGACUCUAGACAUAGAGUCACGAUCAUACAGAAGAAGCCCAUGCAAGAUAUCGAAAAAGCCUUUAGACACCAGGCAAGGCAACUUGAGGUUUUUCUCUCACGAGAGGCAGACCAUUUUAGAACUCUUCUGUGUUGUAAAGUAGAUACAAUUUUGCCAAGACAAUAUUGACAAUGAGGGUUGAUUCUGGGUAAUCCCGACCUUCCAAAUCCACUUCGUAUAUCCUUUAAUCUUUUUCAUAAUAUCUUUGCCACAUAAUUAUUAGUUAUUUAUUUGUUCAUUUACAUAAUAUUCCCAUAGUAAUUCUCAUAAUUGCCAUUAUGUUUCUACUCUCGGUUGGCCAUAGCAUUACUAAUUAUUCAUUAAUUCCACAUAUUGAUUACAUCAUUAAUCUACUCAUUGUCAUUGCAUAUUUAUCAUUGACUUUGUCAUAGCAUUAAUUGCAUUUUAUUAUAAUAACUUGACCAAUUUUGUGCCUCAAUCCGAUUUUCGUGGGAACAAUACUCACUCAUCACUUUAUUACUUGAUUCAACGUGUAUACUUGCACAAAUCGCAUAUCAUUUCACAUGCGACAGUGUCCAAUUUAACCUUUUGAGAUAUAAACUCAAACAAACUCAAUUAAUGGCUUUAAUCAACCCACCAAGAAAUAAUAAUUGGCAAAUUGAAGGAUGAAGAAUGAAUUCCCAUGACUCCUUAAAGAAAAUUGAGAAGAAAACUGCUUCUAAAAAUUACAAGAAAUAAUCUUGCACAAAGAAACUUACCCUCAGAGUUGGAAAUUUUAGUAAUGAGCAAAAACAAUUGUGUCUCUAAUGAACAUGAAGGGGCCUUUACAUAGGAUAGAUAAGUACAUCCAAAUAAAAUUUUGAAGUAUAUUAAAACUUUAAUUAAUGUAAGAAAAAAAGUAAUUUUCAACUAAAAUAGUCAUAAUUUCUAUAAUAAUCCCGUCUAGAAAUUCUGCUCACAUAGCCAUCACUAAAAUAGUCAUAAAUUGAGCUCUUGAACUCGAAAUUGAAUGAAUAAAAGUGUGUUUGAAAGUUAAGUAAUAGAUCUUAGAACUCCAUCAAGACAUAUCAAUCAAAAAAUGUCUGGAUCCCAUCCAAAAAGUCAUUGCAAGUUAACUAAUUUUCCAAACUUGAAAAUUGACAGCUUCGGGGAAUGGAAUUUAAUAAAGUUCACCCCAUCUACUCAAGUAUAAACUUGCAGUGGUAAAAAGUAAAAAUAAAUAAUCUAUAGAGAAACUAGUUGAAGAAUUUAUGACAAUUUAUUUAGAUCUUUUUUUCUUCUAGCCUUUGCAAACUUGAAGUUUCCCUUGGUGUGAGAGAGUUGUUCCUUACCCUCUAAGUUAUUUUUUUUCUUUUCCUUUUUUUUUCUUUCUCUUCGAUCUUGUCACCUAAGGGUGUUCAAAUGAUUGAUUCAGUUAAUACCCGAACAAUGCUAUCAUUAACUGAAAUUUUGAAACCUUAAUCGUUAAUGAAACCAAUUUUUUGUUGAAACCUAUUAACCGGCCGGAUUGAUUUCGGUUAAUUCAGGCGGCUAGCCGGAAUUUAUACAUUAUUUUUUUCAAACAAUUUUAAAACAAAGAACAAUCCAUGACAACUUUUUCCUUGUUUUUUAUUCAAAAAUUAUUAAAAGAAUUUUAAAAAAUAACAUAAUAACAACACUAAAUUAAAAACAUAAUAGCAUUCAUUACAUUACAAAGCAUAAUUUCUUUUUUUUUUUACUUUUUGUUGACUUUUUAGUUUAAUUUUAGUUUUUUUUUUCAAAUAUUUUUAGUUUUCAUAUUUUUGUUAAGCUUAUUAUAAGAAAACUUAUAAAUCCAUUAGUUUUUAUAUAUUAGGUUUGUAUAAUGUAUUGGACCUAUCUCUAACAUAUUGGGCCUAUAAUAUAUUUUUAUUGAUUUCGGUUAAUCAAUUAAUUUGGUUAAUUAGUCGAUUUCAAACUAAACUAAUCGAUAAACAAAAUUUUCUAAAACAUUUAACCAACUCCCAACCAAAUUAGAUUCGUUGAUCGACUGCUUAAUCAAAUUAAUCAUAUGGUAGAAUGGCAUGUUUUUGGAAUGGCUAUUUGGCAUUAUUGGUAUAGGUUUAAGUUAUGAUCUAAAGAUGUUGAAUUGAAUUAAGUUUGAUAUGUAUACUAUGAUGUCUUCAUUGGCAUAUUGGUUAGAUAUUAAAGGAUGGUUGAUUUGGUAUGUUUUGAAAAUGGUUCUUGGUAUGUUUGAUCUAAGUUGAUUAAAUGAACUUGUAAUGUUGAAUGGUAUAAUAUUUGUUGUUACAUUAGUUAGUCUUAUAGGUUGAUGGAAUUGGUAUGUUUUAAAUGUGUUUAAAAUGUGUUUUGAUUAUUUAAAUGUUUGUGGAAAUGGUGUGUCUUGGUGUACAAGAUUUGAAAUUGAAAUGGCUUGAUUUAGAAAGCAACUUAUGCUGCACACCGCCUAGGACAUGGGUUGUCACAUGGCUGUGUGUCAUUAUUGUUUUAGGUACAGGUUUCACACAAUCUAAGACUUGGCUCACGACAUGGCUACGUAUCAUAAGUCAAUAUGUAACACGGUUUGGUACAUGGCCUGUAACACGACCGUGUGUCCAAACUUCAAAUGUUUACACGUCCUGGGCUAUGUCACACGACUUGGCCACAUGGCCGUGUGACCCUUGUUUUAAAGUUUUCUGAAAUUUUCUAUUUUAUUUCAAAUUGAUCCUAGAAUAUUCUCAAACUAUUUUUAGGGCCUCGUAGGUUCAAAUUAAGGCCCACAAAUGUAUGCUUGCUAUAAUUAAGUUGUGCUAAUUAAUGUUAUUAAUUAAAUGGCAUGAAUAUUUUAUUGUAAGUUAAAUUUUUUAAUUUGUCCUAUAAUGCUCCGUAACCCAAAUCAAGUGACGGAGAUAGGUUUGGGUGUUACAAUUUUGGACUGUAAAUUUGUUUUGAGGCUUUGUUCUUUGGUUCUUGCAAUGUUUGUUGGAUUUUAGUGUUUUAACAUUAAACUGCAAAAUUGUAUGAUUUAACAAACUAAAAAUUAGGUUUUCAAAAUUAAAACUCUAGAAAUUUUCAUUACAAAGAUUAAGUAAUCACUUAAGUGUUUUCCCAUAAAUAAUUAAAUGGUUUUUAACAAAUGUUUUCCUUAGUUUUGGGAAUGAUAUGCCAACAUUAGUACUUUUAAAACACAUGGUUUUAAAUAAGGGUUUUCAAACUUUGGUUUUUUAACAUUUGUGAGAGGUUUUUGCCAAAUUUUAUGUUUUCAGAAUGUGUAACUAAGUUGAUUUUAAUUAGUUUUUCAACGAGUUUAUGUAAUUCCUCAAAAAUCCAGUCAUAGCAUCUAGGCCGGGUUUGGGGUGUUACACUAACAUUACUAAAGUUAAUCUUAAUCUAUUUAGUCUAGAUCUAAACAUUAAUAUUCUCUUCAAAGAAAAUCAAGAUUAUCAAAUUAUUACAACUUGGUAGGCAGACAAUCUUAUUAAAUAUGCAUAAAAGUUAAUAAAUAGUUAGCGAAGAUUGAAACAAUCAAAGAAAAAAUAAAUUAAUUAACUAAGAAAUAGGAUCCAUUAUUGUUCCAAGAAAAUAGAGUUUAGUUCAUAUUGAUUGAGAAAAUCAAAAGGGAGAUUCAAAAAACACUUGUGAUAAGGGGAACAAUGUCAAUAGAUCAUAUUCAAGUUGUUCGACUCAAGAAAGAAAUAUUUGGAUCUAGCCUGAAAAGAAGAAACCAAACAGAUUUAGGAAAAAAAGAAAAAAAAGAAAAAAACUUAAAUAAUAAAUUUAAGAAUAAAUAAUAAAUAUUAAAAAUAAUAAAGAAAUAAAGAAAUUAUAGAAUAAAUAGUGGAAGAUGGAAUGAAUAAACGAUGGAUAUGACAUAUAGAUGGAUAAGUGUCUGAUAAUUCUUGAAAAGAGUUAUAUUUCAUGCCUUUAGACCUAACUAAUUGCUUGUACUUAAGUACAUUUUGUUGCAUUUUAAGAUAUUUUAGUUAGUAUUUGUAAUAUUGCAUUAGGAUUUAGAUUGUGUUGGAAUUAGGUGUUUUUAAUCACUUGUGGUGGAGUUUUUGGUGUGCUGGUAUGGCAGGAACAUUAUUUAGAACGAGGAAAUAAAUGAGUGAAGUUUUGCCAAUGCAAAAGUGCAGAUAGUUUGCCAGCACAGAUGCCGUGGAAAUGCCGAGAAGACCAAGUCAACAUUUUUUUGUGCAACAGUCCCAGUUCAAAUUCAAACUUGUACCAAAUAAAUCUCCCUAAAAGAGGAGAAGAUAAUCACAACUUGUUAGCCAACCCUAGCCUAAUCUAUCUAUAAAAGCCAAUGAAGGGGAUCUCACAAAUGGCAGAAAAAAGUGGGAGAGAUCCUUAGGUGUGAAUAAUGAUUCAGCUGUGCAAAGGAAAGGAAGUCAAAGGCAGUCCCUUUUAGCCAUCACAGGACGUUGUGCUGCCGAUGUGUGGACUAGGCAAGUGAAAGUUGUAUCCCAAAGUUCUUUCGUUAUUUCCAUUAGUGUUCCUUCAAAAUAUUGAAGUAGUUGAACACAACGUUGGAUAAUAUUUUGGUUUGGAAUUUUAUAUCCCAGCUCAUGAGCUAAAUCUCGUAGGGUUGAGAUUACUUUUGAAGAAACCUUAAACUGCUUUUAUGAAUGCAAAUGAUCUCUGGACAUAGAAGACUGUUCGUAUACUUAUAAACUGAUUCUAAUUCUAAAACGGUUGGAUUGGUUGGAUUAAAAUUAAAUGAAAUGAGCAAGCAUUCGAUAGACACUUGUAGUAGACUCUAGACAUAGAGUCACGCUCAUACAAAAGGAACCCAUGCAAGAUAUCUAAAAAGCCUUUAGACACAGGCAAGGUAACUUGAGGUGUUGCUCUCACGAGAGGCAGGCCAUUUUAGUACUCUUCUGUGCUUUAAAGUAGAUAUGAUUUUGCCAAGGCAUUAUUGAAAAUAAGGGUCGAUUUUGGGUAAUCUCGACCUUCCAAAUCCACAUCGUAUAUCUUUUAUUCUUUCCCAUAGUAUAUUUGCCACAUCAUUAUUAGUUAUUUAUUUGCUCAUUUACAUAAUAUUCCUAUAGUAAUUCUCAUAAUUGUCAUUACAUUUCUACUCUCGAUUUGGCACAACAUUACCAGUUAUUUAUUAAUUCCACGCAUUGCUUACAUCAUUACUCUACUAAUUACCACUGUAUAUUUACCAUUGACUUUCCCAUAGUAUUAAUCGUAUUUUAUUAUAAUAACUUGACCAAUUUUGUGCCUCAAUUCGAUCCUCAUGGAACGAUACUCACUCAUCACUUUAUUUGUAACAUCCCAAACUUGGAUUAGAAGUUAUGACUGAAUCCGGCGAUAUCACAUGGAAAGGGAUUUGAAGACAAGAUUGUCGAGUUUAAAAACCAUUAUAGAAAGUUAGCUUUUAUUUAAUUCGGGAAAAAAACUAGUUGAUUUUCUUUAAAACUUGUCUCUUAGCAGAAGCUUUUGUAACCAAUUAAUUUACGAAAAAUCGUUUCUAUUUACAAAAAACUUUAGUAGGAAAAACUAUGUUUUGUGGAGUUGCAGUUUUUAAAAGAAACCCAUAAAAAAAGUAUAAAGUCCCAAAUUUAAAACCAACCAGUCCAUAGUCUAGAAGAUACAUCAAAAACUCCAAANNNNNNNNNNNNNNNNNNNNNNNNNNNNNNNNNNNNNNNNNNNNNNNNNNNNNNNNNNNNNNNNNNNNNNNNNNNNNNNNNNNNNNNNNNNNNNNNNNNNNNNNNNNNNNNNNNNNNNNNNNNNNNNNNNNNNNNNNNNNNNNNNNNNNNNNNNNNNNNNNNNNNNNNNNNNNNNNNNNNNNNNNNNNNNNNNNNNNNNNNNNNNNNNNNNNNNNNNNNNNNNNNNNNNNNNNNNNNNNNNNNNNNNNNNNNNNNNNNNNNNNNNNNNNNNNNNNNNNNNNNNNNNNNNNNNNNNNNNNNNNNNNNNNNNNNNNNNNNNNNNNNNNNNNNNNNNNNNNNNNNNNNNNNNNNNNNNNNNNNNNNNNNNNNNNNNNNNNNNNNNNNNNNNNNNNNNNNNNNNNNNNNNNNNNNNNNNNNNNNNNNNNNNNNNNNNNNNNNNNNNNNNNNNNNNNNNNNNNNNNNNNNNNNNNNNNNNNNNNNNNNNNNNNNNNNNNNNNNNNAGUUCUACACUUACGCCCAUAUAAUGCUUCAUACGGUGCCAUUCGUAUACUUGACUGAUAGCUAUUGUUAUAAGCAAAUUCAACCAAUGGUAGAUAUUUCUCCCAACUGCCUUUCAAUUCUAAAAUACAACACCGGAGCAUAUCUUCAAGAAUUUGAAUCACUCUUUCCGAUUGCCCGUCAGUUUGCGGAUGAAACGCAGUACUGAAAUUCAAUUUUGUACCCAAGGCUUCCUGCAACUUUAUCCAAAACCUCGAAGUAAAUCUCAGAUCUCUAUCCGAUAUAAUAGAUUUAGGCACCCCAUGUAAUCUCACUAUUUCAGCAACAUAUAAUUCUGCCAACCUGUCAAGUGAGUAAUCAAUGCGUAUCGGAAUAAAAUGAGCCGACUUUGUCAAUCUAUCAACAAUUACCCAAAUAGCAUCUUUCUUCUUUGGAGUUAAAGGCAAUCCUGUCACAAAAUCCAUCGUAAUACUAUCCCACUUCCACUCUGGAAUCGUUAUCGGUUGAAGUAAACCCGAUGGUACUUGAUGCUCAGCCUUCACUUGUUGACAGAUUAAACACUUUGAUACAAAUUCCGAGAUAUCCUUUUUCAUGCCUGGCCACCAAUACAACUUCUUCAAAUCAUUAUACAUUUUCACACUACCCGGAUGAACUGACAAGUCACCACUAUGUGCCUCACAUAAAAUGGUCUGAAUUAACUCAUCAUUUCUUGGUACACAUACUCUAUCCCGGAACAUCAAGCAAUCAUCUGAACCAAUUUGAAAAUCUGAGUCAACACCUGCUUCACACUGAGCUCUCUUGGCUUGCAAUUUACUGUCAUUCUUUUGAGAUUCCCGAAUUUACUGAAGAAAUAAUGGUCUAGCUCUCAAUUCAACCAACAUUGAGCCAUCAUCAGAUAAAGUUAACAUCGUACCCAUAGCUCUCAAAGCAAAUAAAGAUUUUCUGCUCAAGGCAUCAGCAACCACAUUAGCUUUCCCGGGGUGAUAAUCAAUCACUAGCUCAUAGUCUUUGAUUAGCUCGAGCCAUCUUCGUUGCCGCAAAUUCAAAUCUUUUUGGCUCAUCAAAUACUUCAAACUCUUAUGAUCAGUGAAGAUUCGGCACUUUUCACCAUACAAAUAAUGACGCCAAAUUUUUAAAGCAAAAACAAUGGCAGCCAAUUCUAAAUCAUGCGUCGGAUAAUUCUUCUCAUGCGGUUUCAAUUGUCUCGAAGCAUAAGCUAUUACUUUGCCCUCUUGCAUUAACACACACCCAAGACCAUUCAACGAUGCAUCACUGUAAAUUACAAACUCCUUCCCGGACUCAGGUUGCACCAACACUGGCGCCUCAGUCAAUAAUGCCUUCAACUUUUCAAAACUCUGUUGACAUUUAUUGGUCCAUUCAAACUUGACAUUCUUCUGCAGUAACUUAGUCAUAGGAGAAGCAAUCAUCGAAAAUCCCUUGACAAAGCGUCUGUAAUACCCAGCUAAGCCCAGAAAGCUUCUAACUUCUGUCACAUUCUUUGGUGGCUCCCAAUCAACAAUUGCUGAAAUUUUGCUUGGAUCAACCCGAAUACCUUCACUUGAAACUAUAUGUCCCAAGAAUCCAACCUCACGAAGCCAAAACUCACUUUUGCUGAAUUUAGCAUACAAUUUCUUUUCUCUCAGAAUCUGCAACACAGUUCUUAAAUGUUCUGCAUGCUCAGAUUCAUCCCGAGAAUAGAUUAAAAUAUCAUCUAUGAACACCACCACGAACUUAUCCAAGUACGGCCGAAAAAUUUGGUUCAUCAAGUCCAUAAAAAUAGCUGGAGCAUUUGUUAACCCAAAAGGCAUUACCAGAAAUUCAUAGUGUCCAUACCUUGUUCUAAAGGCGGUUUUCGGCACAUCAGACUCUUUAACUCUUAACUGAUAGUAACCAGACCUCAAAUCAAUCUUAGAAAACACUGUUGCCCCUUUUAAUUGAUCAAAUAAAUCAUCAAUUCUCGGCAAAGGAUACUUGUUCUUUAUAGUCACCUUGUUGAGCUGACGAUAGUCAAUACAAAGUCUCAUAGAGCCGUCCUUUUUUUUCACAAAUAACACAGGAGCACCCCAAGGAGAAAAACUCGGUCUCACAAAUCCUUUAUCUGUCAACUCUUGUAACUGAGCUUUUAAUUCCUUCAACUCAGUCGGAGCCAUUUGAUACAGUGCAAUAGAAAUCGGUGCAGUACCAGGUAACAGAUCAAUAGAAAACUCAACUUCUCUAAUCGGAGGUAACCCAGGCAAUUCCUCUGGAAAUACAUCUGGAAAUUCACAAACUACCGGCACUGAUUCAAGCUUCGACCCAGUAAUAUCCGUGUUUAGCACAUAAGCAAGAUAAACUUCACAUCCCUUUCUCAAGUAUUUCUGAGCAGACAUGUGCGAAAUCACCAUAGGCAACUUAUUCGGCUCCUUUGUUUCAACCCGGAGAAUUUCACCGUUUUCACAAUUUAAUUCAAGAAUUUUCUGUCUACAAUUUCCCUUGGCAUCAUGCAAUAUCAACCAAUCCAUCCCCAAAAUAACAUCAAACUCAUCAAAUGGUAACAACAUCAAAUUAGCCGGGAAACAGUGGCCUUGAAUCAUCAGGGGACAAUUCUUGCAAACCUUAUCGACUAAGACAUAUUUGCCUAAAGGAUUUGAUACUUUAACUACAAAUUCAGUUUUUUCAACAGGCAAUUUCUUACUAGACACCAAAUUCAUGCAUAUAUAUGAAUGAGUAGAGCCGGGAUCAAUCAAAGCAAUAACAUCAAUAUCAUGAAGAGAAAAUGUACCAGUAAUCACAUCGGGAGAUGAGGCAUCCUCUCGAGCGCGUAUAGCAUAAGUCCUAGCAGGCGCUCUAGUUUCUGAUCCUCCAGCUGUAUCUUUUAUCACACUCUUACCACUGGCUUUGCUUCCCACAUUUCUCGGUGGUCUGCCUCUACUGACAACAUCACCCGAUCCAGCUCUUUGUAAUCUUUCUUCUUCUAUUCUCUCAGGGCAGUCUUUUACAUAAUGCUCUUGGGAACCACAUCUGAAACAAGCUCGUUUAAAUCCCCAACACUCACCAGUAUGUCGCCUGCCACACUGUUGACAUUCAGGUCUGGUGUUUCCUACAUUACCCACACUUGCCACUGAGGUAGCUCGAGUUGUAGUUCCGGAAUAUGACCUCCCUCGGUCUCUGCGUGAAUACCCAACUGAACCGGUUGGUCGUGGAUCCAUCCCUUUAAACUUCUUCGGGUGAGAUUGAAAUGUUCUGCCCAUUGACCUCUUCCUUACAUCUCGAGCUUCCAUCUCUGCCCUUCUCUUUUCUCUACUCAGCUCUUCAGCUUUGCAAGCACGAUCAACUAAUACCACAAAUUCUUUUAACUCUAAAAUUCCAACAUGUAAUCUGAUGUCUUCAUUUAGCCCCUCUUCAAAUCUUUUACACAUAAUAGCCUCCGUAGGCACACAUUCCUGGGCAUAUUUACUAAGCCGGACAAACUCCCGUUCAUAUUCUGCUACUGACAUUCGGCCCUGUUUCAAUCCGAGAAACUCUUUGCGCUUCUGAUCAAUAAACCGUUGGCUUACAUAUUUCUUUCUGAAUUCUUCCUGAAAGAAGUCCCAAGUAACUCUUUCUUUUGGAACCACCGUUAUUAAUGUUUUCCACCAACGGUAUGCCGAAUCCUUCAAUAAAGACACAGCACAUUUCAAACAUUCCUCAGGAGUACAAGAUAAUUCAUCAAAUACCUGGAUAGUAUUUUCAAGCCAAAACUCGGCUUUUUCCGGAUCAUCAUCAACAUUGGCCCUGAAAUCUUCAACCCCAUGCUUUCGAAUUCUAUCAACGGGUGGUUUACUUGAUCUCACCAAUUCAGCACUUCGUGGAGCUACGGGGACCGGCGGAGGAAUAGGAGGGGGUGGAGGAGGUGGAACAUUCGGAUUUACACGGACAUAUUCUGUAUACCAAUCACUCAUCAUUCGGAGGAAGGCUUCUCGAGCCUCAUCCUGUCCAUGUGUCUCAUGUCUACUCUCUUCAUGCGCGGUCCCUUGUGUGGGAACCGGCGUGUUACUUUCAACAUCAUCUGCCAUACUUCGAUUAGGAUCCAUUUACUAUAUAAAACAAAAUUUUAAAUUGUCAGAAAUCAUCACACUAUCACAAUAUAUUGAUGGCAUGUAUAGACUGACUUUCACACAUAUUUUAUUGGUCCGAGAACUGACUAAACCGUAGCUCUGAUACCACUAAAAUGUAACACCCCUUACUCGUAUUCCGGCUCGGAACAGAGUAUGAGGUAUUACUAAGUUUUUUAAAAAAAAUUUCGACAGCAUUUCUUCUUAAUUUUGCUUAAACCUCCUGCAAAUUUAAAUCACAAUCCAAUAUAUAUAUAUCAACCAAACUCAUUUAUAAUAAUACUCACAAUUUAACUAUUAAUGAACACCACAUUUUAAAUCAAACCAUAACAUAUAUUUACAUGAUGAUUCCAUAUUUCAUAGGUCGUCUAUACAUGCCAUAAUUUUCCGGAACGAUAGUAGCAAAAUACCCCAAGUGUGAAGGAUAGUGUGGAUGAUUGUCUGACUUCGUUCCAAAUUUCCGAGUUGUCGGAAGUCACUAUAAUCAAGGGAAAAAUAAAAUCGAGUAAGCAUAUAGCUUAGUAAGUAAACACAUGAUAAAUAAGUAAUUACUCACAUAACUACACCAAAAUAUAAACUUAUUCAUGAAUAACUUCAUUGUUUAGGCAAUUUCCAGCAAACUGUUUUUCUGCGUCAUAUUCGCUAAUUUAUUUUUAUCCGGAGCUACAGGGCUCCAAAUUGAGUUUCGUAAAUUUUCCCUGAAACUAGACUCAUAUACCAUUUCACCAUAAAAAUUUCAGAAUUUUUUACCCAGCCAAUUAGUACAUUUUAUUCAUUAAAACUUCCCCUGUUUCACUGCCCAACGGUUCUGACCCUUCCUCAAAAAAAUUCACUUAACUCUCUGUACAAAAUUUUAAAAAUGGUUUCGCUUGUUUCUAUUAAAAAUAGAGUCAAUAAGGAAUCCAGGAAUAUAAAUUUCACACCAUAAUUAUUUUUGUACAAUUUUUGGUGAUUUUCCAAAGUUAGAACAGGGGAUCCCGAAAUCAAUCCAGCCCUGUUUCAGUAAAAUUCAGAUAUCUCCAAAAAUACAACUCUUUUGCUUAUUCUAUUUAUUUCAUAUGAAAAUAGACACAUUCAGCUUCAAUUUCAUAUAUUAUUCAGCUUCCCAUUCAUUUUCCACCAUUUAUGGUGAUUUUUCAAAGUUACCCAUCUGCUGUUGUUCAACACAGUUUAUAACUAAAUCGUUCCUUUUUUCGUUUUUGAUAUUUUCUCCCAUCUCAUACAUGGAUCGAUUUAGUAUCCAACUCAAUAUUUGCCCCAUAAAAAUUUCCACCAUAUGGCAAUAUUCACCUUCCACACUUUUUCGUUGAGCACUCGGAAUGUUAACCGUUAUUGGUGGAUCUCGCACUUAGCACCACCACUUAAUCGGGGAAUCAGCACUUAGCAACCCCUUGGGGGAAUCAGCACAUAGCAACCCCCUUUUUAUUUCAGAGAUACGGUGGAUAUCGCACUUAGCACCACCAAUGAACCGGGGAAUCAGCACUUAGCAACCCCUCGGGGGAAUCAGCACAUAGCAACCCCCUUUCACAUUUCAAAGAUACGGUGGAUAUCGCACAUAGCACCACCAAUGAAUCGGGGAAUCAGCACACAGCAACCCCUUUAUGUACAACAUACUUCGGCUUAUUCCGAGUGUUCAACCCAUAAAUCAUAUAUUGCAACCCUUUACCACAUUUCCCGAUUUAACAACAUUUUUAGGAUAUGGCCAAACAUUUAUUUUAAUUCCAAAUAAAUCUCAACAUAUAUCAAUUAAUGUCAAAAUAAUACAUCAAGUCACGUGUUUACUUACCUCGGUGCAAAAUAUCGUAAUUUUGCACUUCACUUCACUCCACUAUCUUUUCUUUUCCUCGUUUGAGAUAAUCUUCACGUCUUUCUUGAUCUAUAAUAGCAAAUUUAACUCAUUUAAUGUUCACAUUCAUUAAAAUAAUCCACCACCCAACUUUUUGAAAAAUUACAAUUUUGCCCCCAAACUUUUGCAUAAUUACACUUUUGUCCCCAAGCUCGGAAAUUAAACUUCAUCACUUAUUCUUAGGUUUUAUGACAUGCUGAACAUUUUUCCCUUCUAUGGCAACAUCAAAUUCUCACUCUAACAUACACUUAUGAACAAUAAUUAUUUUUACCGAUUAUGCCUAUUUACCCGUUUUCGCUUAAAAUCGCUUAGCAAAAGUUGUUUAACAUAAUUUAUAGCUUCAUAUUCCACCAUAAAACAGAAAAAUAAACACAUUUCACCUAUGGGUAUUUUUCCAAAUAUGAGCCCUAACACGAAUUAUUGCUAGAAUAAGCUAAAUCGAGUUACGAGGAUUCCAAAAAUGCGAAGAACAUUAAAAACAGGGCUAGGAUGCACUUACUAUGAGCUUGAGAAAGCAAAGAAAACUUAGCUAUGGCUUCCUUCAAAUUUCGGCAGCAACUAAUGAGGAAGAUGAUGAUUUUUGUCAUCUUUUUCCCAUUUUAUUUUAUUUUAUUACCAAAUGACUAAUAUGCCCCAUUUAAAAAAAUCUAUUUCUCUCAUUUCUUAUGUCUAUUUUUGUCCAUCAACUAACUAAUGGUCUAAUUACCACAUAAAGACCUCUAAUUUAAAAUUUCAUAUCAAUUAGAUACUUCUACAUAUAGAACUCAACUUUUACACUAUUUACAAUUUAGUCCUUUUGACUAAAUUGAGUGCCCAAACGUCGAAAUUUUCGAACGAAAUUUUUACGAAAAUUUUCCGUGAAAUUGUAGACCAUAAAAAUAUAAUAAUAAUCAUAUUUUCCCUCGUCGGAUUUGUGGUCCCGAAACCACUAUUCCGACUAGGCCCAAAAUCGGCCUGUUACAUAUAGGCUAUUAAAAUGGUGAAAUUAUAUUUUUACAAUAGUAAAAAUUACAAUUUAAUUUCACCCCUAAAAGGAUUUUUUGGCUUCGACCCUAAUAAAAUCUUUGGCAAAAGAUUAAAAUAAAAUUAUACCGUGAAUGGAAAAAGAAACUAAGAAAAUCCAAUCUAACAAAGAAAAUAACUUUGUUUAGCAACCUUUGUUUGAUUAAAAAUGUUGAAUUAAAAAUUCCAGAAUAGAUUAAAAAUUAUACCGUGAAUGGCAAAAGAUUACAAUUUUUUUGGUAAUAUUUUAAAAUUCCAGAAUAGAUUAAAAAUGUUGAAUUAAAGAUAAAAUUAAUAACCACAAGUGUACUCAUUACUCACCAUCUCUGUUAAAAAUGAUCGAUGUUGUUUAGCAACCUUUGUUUGAUUUUCUUCAGCUCAACCACAACAUCUUUCAUAUCUUUUCUUUCUUCCGGUAACUCAGCUGAACAAUUCAAAGCCAACUCCAUGAUAGAUGAAAUACAAUUUGCUUUAACAACAAUGUACUCAUCCUCUCUUCUUAAUAAAUCAACAUCUGCAAUUUCUAUCGCUCCUUUCGGCAAUGAACUUUCCAUCCAAUGCCUUAUACUCUCUUCUUCAACAAAAACAUUACCAGUUGGCUUUUUCUUUGUGAAAGUUUCUAUAAGGACGAUCCCAUAACUAUAGACGUCAGAUUUUAUAGAAACGAUUCCUGCUGAUCCAAAUUCUGCAUUUCAAGUAUAAUUACAACAUCAUUCAUCCUCAAUUAUUUCUAAAAUGCUUAUUCAAAUAUAUAUUCACAUCCACAUGAAACAAAAAUAUAAAAUGCAAAUUAGGAAAAUAAUCAUACAAAAAUAAAAAAUAAUUCACCUGGUGCCAUAUACCCGAUAGUUGCAAGAGUCAUGGUUUGCUUCAUUACUUCACCUUCUCCCAACAAUUUGGCAACGCCAAAAUCUCCAACAUGUGCAACCAUGUCUUCAUCUAGUAAAAUAUUGCUUGGUUUUAUGUCACAAUGAAUAUAGGUGUUGGAUGUCCAUUGUGGAGGUGUUCUAUGCCUACCGCAACAUUUAUCAUUAUGUCGACCCUUUGUAUGAUAUCAAGGAAACAAUUUUCAGAAUGUAACCAUUUCUCAAGGUUUCCAUUAGACAUGUAAUCAAGCACCAAGGCUUUGAAGUCAAGACUUGAGCAGCAAGUAAUGACCUUCACAAUAUUACGAUGAACUAUAUUACGCAUAGCAUCACAUUCAAUGUCAAAACUCCUAAAUGCUCCCUCUGUUUGCAAAUUGAAAACUUUUAUUGCAACUUCCAUUCCAUCUGAAAGCCUCCCUUUAUAUACAUAUCCAAAACUCCCUGAACCAAGCAUAUUGCUUUCCUCAAAUCCAUUAGUUGCUCGUGAAAGUUCAGCAUGUGAAAUUCUUCUCGGUGUCUUCAAAGACAACAAAUCAUCUUUAAUUGGUAGAGCUGUACUCCUUCUUUGGCAUCUUCUAUACAUAAUAGUUAAGACUAUUAAUACUACGACAAUACCAAUUGUUGGUAAACCAUACCUAAAAGCAUGCAAUAUAAUCAUUUGGGAGUUUUUGUGGAUGUCGUUUUUACAAGGUGGGACUAGCAGUCUAGGUGGACCACAAAGUGCAUAAUUCUUUAUGAAUGAUGUGCUAGAAAAGUUUGAAAAACAUCCUUCGCUGGGAAUUUCCCCUUCAAGUCUAUUGAAAGACACAUUAAAAUACUUUAGAUAUAAAAGCUUCUCCAAAGAUUUGGGAAUGACUCCAGAGAGAUUGUUAUUGCAUAAAUCCAAGAAUUCCAAACUAAUCAACCCAUCAAAUGAUUCAGGGAUAUGACCAUGUAGUAUAUUAUUUGAUAAAUCUAAUGAAACCAAAGUUAUAAGACCCCCAAAUGUGGAUAAGAUAUCCCCCGUGAGAAGAUUCCUUGAUAAAUUUAGUUUCAGUAGACUCCUCAAAUUUCCGACAUCAAUAGCAUGUGAAUUGUGAAGAUGGUUUGAUGAUAAAUCUAUUUUUAAGAUAUCUUGAAGAUUCCACAAAGUUGAGGGUAUUGCGGAACUCAGUUUGUUGGAAUCUAAGUAAAGAUAUCCCAAAGAAGUAAUAUUACCCAAACAAGAGGGUAUGGAUCCAUGUAGCUUAUUCAACCCUAAAUACAUCUCGUAUAGUCUCUCCAAAUCACAAAAACUUUCUGAGAUGGGCCCUCCUAAUUUAUUAGAGGAAAGAUCUAGACCUUGGAGAUUUCGCAGUCCUCCUAUUGAUGCUGGAAUGAAUCCACUUAAUUUAUUAUGGCGAAGUUGUAAAAGCAAUAGGUUGGUUAAGUUACCUAUUUCCAUAGGAAUAAUGCCUUGAAGCUCACAAUUAGAGGCAUAAAAGUAUUGAAGGGUUUUUGAAAGGUUCCCGAUAUAAGUAGGAAGAACACCACUCAAUGGAUUUCCUGAAACAUCUAUUGUGCUCAAAUUCCUACAAUUCGUCAAAGAAGAAAGAAAGCUCCACUCAUGAUCGGUAGAAGAUCCUGUGAUCAAAUUAUUGUUUUUGAUUCGGAACCAUUCAAGGUGUCUUAAGUUGCCAAGCGUUUUAGGGAUUGGGCCAGAGAAUAAGUUAUGCGCCAAGUCUAGUUCCUUAAGCAUGGAAGCAUUGGAGAUAGAGUUGGGAAUGUUUCCGCUAAGUUUAUUUCUCCACAAUAAAAGAAUCUCAGGCUUUGGAGCAUUGGUGAUGGGUGGUAAAUUACCUGUAAAAUAUCAUCUUUUAGUAUACAUAUUCAUUGAAUACCAAAUUCACAAAAUAUAUUAUACAUUAAAAUAAAAACUGUAAAACUUUAAAUCAAUUAAGAAUAAAAUUUUGGCAUGGAAAAAUGUGAUGAAAUCAAUUACAAAGUUGAGACAUACUAAGAAGUUUCAAGUAGUAAUUAGUCUUGUGAUUUGUAUAGACAAAACAUAUAGAUUUGGGAAUGUGGCAUCUAAUCAAUCUUAAAAAUGAGACUGGCACUGAAUAAUAAUUAGUUAUGAUUUGGGAAACAAAAAGGUUAAAGCCAUUGUUUUUAAUGUAAACUGAUAUGAUUUUUAUUUAUUGGGUUAAUUAUUUAUUGUUAUUAAAUUAUAGUGUAAAAUUUAACGAUUAUUAUUUGCUCAAAAUUUCUGUAUUUUUCGUAUAUUUGAAAUUUAAUCUUUAUAUUUUUUAUUUUUUGUGAUUUAGUCUCUCUACUUUUUGAAUUGAAAAUUUUAGGUUCAUUUACUAACACUAUUAAAAAGUUUUUGUGUCUAGUAUGGCAUUUUGAAAAAUAAAAUAAACUUGAUAUCUAUGUUUUUAAUUAUUCCAAAUAUUGCUUUACUAUUUCAAGAUAAAUUAUUUGUGUCUAGACUAAUAUCUUAAGAACUAUUGUUGCAUGUUUAAUUAUCUAAAAAAUUAUCGAUUGAGUCUUAGCUUGAUUGGCAUGUGCGUUGUUGCCAAUGUAGGAGAAUGUGGGUUCAAGUAUGUUGAAGUGUAUUAUCUUCUUAUUUAUGAAUUAGGGAGUUGGUAAAGUACUAAAAUUUGAUAUAUUUUAAAAUAUUAAAAUUUAUUAAAAUAUUUUUUAUAAAAAAUGAUUCUACCACAAUAUACAAUUUUAAUAUCAAAUUUUUAAUUUUUUUUAAAAAUGUUAGCGAAUAUAUACUUUAUUUCAAGUUAUGCAAUUUUUACUAGUUUUUAACUUUUUUUCAAAUUUUUAUCGUCUUUUAUAAUUUCUAAUAAUUUUUUAUAAUUUUUUUACAAUAUUUAACAAUUUCUAAAUUUUUUUUAAUAAUUUUAUUAUGUAUUACAAAUUUAAAAAUUAACAAAUUUUUAUAUUUUUAAAAAAAUUAUAUAUUUAUAAUGUAUUUAUUUUUUAUAAUUUUAUUUGAAAUUUUAAAGAUUUUUUUGGUUUGUUUUCUAGAUGAUGAUGCCAUCAUGAUGCUAACAUAUUAUGAUUAGAUAUCUCAAUCUAUUCUUUUAACGCCCAGUGAAUGAAACCAAGAACACCUAAUGUUAAAGUGGGUAAAAACACAUUAAGGACCAAAGUUAAAAAAAGAAAAAGAAAAAGAGCAAUAUGCUGUAGGGAAUAAACUGUGCAUUAAGCCAUUAAAAAUAUAUGUAUAAUAUAUAUAAAUGCAUGGAUUUUGAGAAACUUUUGAACUGAUAAUUAUAUAGUCUUUGUUGUUUACUAUAUUAUUGAAUUUGUUAUUUUAAAUUAAUUUUAUUACUUUUAAGAUUUAUAUAAGAAUUUUGGUUUUACUAAAAUAUUUGCUUAAAUAAGUUCACUUCAUAAGAAAAUUUAGCAUCCUUAUAAAUAACAAUUUUGAUUCUAUUAAAAAACUUAUUUUAAAAAAUUAUAUAAUCAAAAUUUAAAAUUUAUAUUGAAUUACUUUAUACUUAAAUUAUUAUUAGAAACUUUAUCAUACACAUACGUGUAUGAGAACCACGUAUUUAGAACAUAAAUUUGUGUUUUAAAAUAACUUAUGAUAAAUAAUGAAAUGUAUAAUUUGAAACUAUUUAAUAAUAACACAUAGCAUAUCUACCAUAUUAAAAUAAAAAUAGAUUAAAUUGUAAGUAAAACAUAAUUUAAACAUAUGAACACAUCAAAUUAAGAAUACUAAAUGAAUAAAGUUAUUUAUAAUGAUAUUGUUGUCAAUUCCUAAAUUGGUGUCGAGUUAAUCUGUGACAUCAUAAAUUUAAGUGAUAAAUUUAAGGAUUUAUGUAUUGAUGUGGAUUCAAAUAUCACCAUAAGUUUUUUAAAAAUAAAAAACUAAAAUACCUUAAAAUACUAUAACUUAUAUUAAAUACGAAAGAGUAUUUUUGUAAUUUUCCUAACCGAGUUGGUGCCCGGUUGACUCAUGACACCAACUCAAUUAAAAGAUUUAAUAAUAAUAUAGAUAUUCACGUUAAAAAAACAAAAAAAAAGUACUUUAGUUCCAAAUAAUUAUAUAACAAGUAAAUUUAUAAUUGAUGAAUAAAUUUAUAGAUAAUAUAUUUAUAUGAUCUAAUAUAUUAUAUUAAUAUUAAUUAUAUAUCAUCUACAAUCUUUGAAGAUCAAUUUAUUAAGUAUCAAGAAAAGAAAAAAAUGAAAUUGAGUUAACACUAAAUCAAUUUUUAGAUUUUGUACAGAUGAUUUAAUGAUGAUAAAAAAAUUAUUAGCACUAUUUUUGAAUUAACAAAAAAUUAGUGAUAUAUUUUAAUUAUAUUUAUUAUUUAUUAUUUUUAAUAAUAUUUUUUAAAAUUAUAUGAAGUAAAAUUAUACUGUAUACUAAAUAUGGUACAUAUACUUUAAUUGUAACUUGAAAAUUUAUUAUAUAAAUUAAUAUAUUUUAAUUAUAUUCAACCAUUUGAAUAACAAAAUAAAAAAAAACUAAUUAGAAUAAUUUUUAGAAAAAAGAAAAAACAUUAUUUAAAGGCUAGUUAAAAAUCACGUGCAACAGGUGAUAUGAGAAUCUAUGUAUAUAAAUGUGUAUAUAUAUAUCGUUGUUUCAUUUUUUUUUUAAAUAAAUAUAUUUUCCACAUUGGUUUCUUUUCUUGUACAGACAAAGGAUUUCUAAUGAUUUUAAAAAAAAAAAUUUACUUAUAUAAAAUAGAUCAGUUUAUUCAGUAAAAUAAAUCAAUUCAUAUAAAUGUUAUUGUUUAUUAUCAGAUUGAAAUGAUAAAAGUAUAUGACAUAAAUAGAAGAAACAAAUUCAACACAAUGUUUUCCGAGUUUGGAAAAAAUUAAAGUGAAAAACAUACCUUCUAAUUUGUUGCCAUAUAGAGCUAUUACUUCGACCAUAGUUGAAUUAAAAAUACUUGAUGGAAUCUGACCUGCAAACAUAGUUGAAAAUUGAAGUAAAAAACAUACCUUCUAAACUCUUCAACUAAAAAUACUUUAAGCAUAUUUUUUUUCCCAUCAAAUUAACUAUUUUGCCUUGAAUGAAAUAAAAUGCUCUUACUUUUGUUAUCUAUUACAAAUCAAAUUCUUCUAUGAAAAAAUAUUUUAAAUUAAAGAAACAAAGAAAAUUCAAUAUCUUCUAAGUAAAGCACUUCAAGCUUGGGAAGAUCAUUAGGCAAACUACCUGAUAUGCCAGUGUUGGAGAGAUCAAUGAUCUUCAGAGAAGAAAUGUUGAAGAUCGAAGUUGGAAUCUGACCUGUGAGGCCUUUAAUUUCUUUAAUACUAAGCAGCUCCAAACCAAGAAGAUUACCGAUUUCCUCAGGAAUUUGACCUGCACACAUAUUUAGUCGAAAAAUCAAGAUGUCAAACUGCCUAUAUUGUUAGCAUAAGUCAAAGAGGUUUUCGUUUCUGCUCUACAGUAAUUUGGAGAUGUUAGAUUUAAUAUAUUUCAGCAUAUGUUUUUCAUCAAAUGAAAUAAAAAAGUUUUUCCUUUUGUUAUCUAUUAAAAAUCAAACUCUUUUAUAAAAAAAUACUUUAAAUUUAAGAAAUCAAGGAAAUUGAUUACCUUCUAGAUUAUUAAACCCCAAAUAUAAUUUCUGGAGUUGUGUUAGAUUUCCAAUACUUCUUGGAAUGAUCCCCAUAAAUUGAUUAUAGGACAACGACAAACUUUUAAGGUUGCUGCAUUUGCCCAUGCCAAAUGGAAUGUUACCAGAUAAUUCAUUCCAACUCAGGUAAAGCUCUUCAAGCUUGGGAAGAUGUUGACACAUAUCAUUAGGCAAACUACCUGAUAGGCUAUUGCUGGUGAGACUAAUAGAUUUCAAAGAAGAAAUCUUGAAGAUGGAAGAUGGAACCUGGCCAGAUAAUUGAUUCAAUUCCAAGUUCAAGAUCUCUAGGUUAGACAUGUUAACAAGUGUUUCAGGGAUUGUGCCUGUAAAGUUAUUAUUUUUCAUUUUCAGCGUUCGAACUCUCUGUAAGUUCCCAAGCCAUGAUGGAAUUUCUCCAUUAAGACGGUUGUAGCUUAAUCGAAGGAUCCUCAAACGAUGCAAUUGGCCCAAUUCUUUAGGGAGAUAGCCAUAGAAAUGGUUGCUACUCAAGUCGAGUGAGAGUAGAAGUGAAAGAUUUCCAAGGUGUGGAGGGAUAGUACCCCUAAGAUUCAUGCUUGUAAGAUUCAAAGCUAUAACUCUUUUAUGGAGGAUGCCACAAGUAACACCAAUCCAAUUGCAAACAGAGGUUGAGGCCGUCCAAUUGUUUGCCAAGACAUUUUGAGGACCGGCAAUGUGAUCCUUAAACUCGAGAAGUGCAAACUGAUCGGAGUUGAGAUUCUUGACUGUCAUAGCCAAGCAAAGUACGGAACAUGGUAUGAAUAAAGCUAAGAGAAGAUGAAAGCCAGCGUUGUAGUUCAUGAUUGCAAGACGGAAUAAGGCAAGAAAAUAAAAAAAAGUAGGAAAAGGGAAGUUGAGCUGAUAAAAUAGUUUGGAUGAUGAAGAAAAGCCCAGAGAGCAUGCUUUAAUAUGUUUCAACCCUCGUACACUUGAUAAACUUGAUAAAUUUAAGACUACCCUAAAAAUUAAAAAGGAAAGCAAAGUUUUGAAGAAAUUUCAAAAUAAAUGUCAAGUCUUCUUCUUUAGAAAAUACGUACAAAGAAUCGAAUUUUCAAAAUUUCUCCUAAAUUUUCUUCACGUUACUCCACAUAAUCCAUUAAAAAUACUUAAAAAUAUAUUUUAAUAAUUACUAUAUAUUCUUUUAUUUAAUAAAUUGUUUAAAAAUGCUAUUAGUCCCUGUAAUUUAAAAGUUAAAAAAAAAAUCCAAUCCUCCUAUUUUUCUAAUUUGAAAAUUCUAGUCCAAUAAUUCUUAAUUCCAUUAAAAAAUUUCAGCUUAAUAGGUUUUUUAUUAUCAAUCAUAUGCAACAGUAUAUGAAUGCAGUCUACUCAGCAUAUAUCCAAGUUUACAGAUUUUAAUAGAAAAUACUUACAAUCCUAAUGGUAGGACUAAGUUUUUUAAACUAGAAAAGUGAGAAGACUUAAUUUUUAACUUUUUAAGCACAAGGAUUAAAUUUUAAAUGUUGUCAAAGUACAAGCACUAACAAAAUAUUUUGAUCUAAUAAAUGUAAAAAACUUUUUAAACAAAAUAAGGUUGAAAUAAUCUAUUUGUCCUUGUACUUUGAUAAAAUUUGAGAUUUAGUCCUUAUAUUUAAAAACUUAAAAAUUAAGUCUUAUUGUUUUUAUUUAAAAAUCUUAGUCCUAUCCUUAAUUUUAUUUUAUCAAAAUUGGUCAACUUUACAUAUUAAUUAGGUUUCCCUUAUAUGUCGCGGUAUCAAUCAAAACUUAAUUAAUAUCCAUCAAUAUCCAUCAAUACGUCAUACAUAAAAAAAGCAAGCAUAAAAUACAGUUAAAAGUCCUCCUUUUAUUAUUAAAUGUUUUAUUUUAGUUAUUUUAAUCAAAUAUAUCCAAAUUACAAUAGAGUUAACAUUUAUUGUGUAAAAAAUAUUUUAAAUUUUUUUUUCAAUUUUAGUUUAAUUCUAGAAGAAAUAUUUCAUUUAUAAAAUCAUAAAACUUUAAAAAUAUUAACUCUGUUAAAUAAAAAUUAUUUUUUUAAAUAGUAAAUGUUAACUUUAUUAACACAAAUGGGCCUCAGUAAUUGACAAGCUCUUCCACAAACUGUGGAAGAUUUGGGGAUAAAAGCUUCAAUAAUUAUGGAGUUAUAGUGUAAAUUUGCCACUAUAUUAUAAGUGUAUUGAAAUUUAUCACUAUAUUUUAUUUGAUGUUUAUCAUUACACUUUGAAAAUAUAAGUAAAUUUACCAUUUAACUCAGAUUUACCUUUGCAAGUAAACUUAAAAUUUUAUUUAAUUUUGUCACUAAAUUUGAUUUGUUCAAUAUAGAUUUUGGUGACUUAAAACUCACUAAAUUUGAUUUUUUCAAUAUACAUUUUGGUGACUUAAAACAAAAUUAAUAAAUAAUUAUUCUUUUGGAUAUCUUUUUAAUGUUUAAUAAUAAGUUAAUUUAUAAAAUAUACUGUCAUUGGACACAAGCCUCUAAGGCGGUGAACCACUAAUCAAAUUAAUUUGGAGAUAUCUUUUUUUCUAAAUAAAGUGAAUUUACGAGUUUUGUUUUCUUUUAAAAACAUUUUUAAUAUUUUUGUGGAUAUCAAAAAAUUUUUCAAUAAGAAAUUUUAAUUCACUCGAAAAGUUAGUGUUUUAUUUCAAGGGGUCAUAAUUAAUCAUUAGAUUUCCCAAUUUUAAAUUUUAAAUUUUUCGACAAUUGCGUAAUUAAUAAGUACCAAUUUUGAGUGUUGUAGGGCUAGUACAAUCUUCCUUACACAUAACCGACUCUUAAACCUACUCUUUUCUCUAGAAUUCAAUGCAAACAUCGAAUUUAUCUUUUGAAAAGAAUUUUAAAAUAAUAUAAAAGGUGUUUUUUUAUGACUGAUCACACUUAACAAAAAUUUAAAAAUUAUUAAAAAAAUUUCAUUUUGAAAUUUAAAGUGAUCUAAAAACAUAUUUUUAAGUGCUUUGGACCAUCUGUUGCUGAUUUCCUUAUUAUAUUAAAUGUUUGCAAUCACUCCUAAUAUAUUGUGCUUGAGUUGUGACAGAGCAAAUCGCCAACGUGCCAUAUUGAUCUAUUGAUGCUGAAACUGAAGUUUUUGUUAUAUUGAUAGAGCUUGUCCUUCAACGCAUACAACGUGUUUGUUAUUUUUCUCCCUUCAAAUUGUAUGAUCUUAUUUAUUUAAUGAAUUAAUGAAUUUCCCUUUUAAAAAGAUAUAUUUUUAAAAUUAAAUACUUUAUAAAAUAUUUAAAACUACUUAAAAAAUUGUAAGCCUUAAAACAAUCAACAAAAUAUAUUUUUCUCUAAAAAAAUCAAUAAAAAUAUGUUUAAAAUUUUAUAUGAAAUUAAAUUUUUUUUAACAAUAAUAUAUUUUAAAAUUAUAGUAACGCUAUAAAAUAUAUAUAUACAUAUAUAUAUAUAUUUACUAAUUAUAUACACCUUUCCAUACAUCCUUUUUCUACAUAGAAUUUCAAAAGUAAAUGUGAAUUAAUGUAGGCGUAAGAAGACUUACAGGUAAGUCACCCAACGAAAGUGUCCUAAACCGACUUAUGGAAGAAUCAAACAAUAAUUUUGUAUCGUAUAAUAUAUUUAAUUACAUUUAUUAGUUUAUCAAUCAAAACUUAAGUAGAAUCCAUCAAUAUUUCACACAUCAAAACCCAAACAUAAAAUUCACUUUUAAAUUAUUCGGGGAAUAUUUGUAUUAUAGGAAAUGGAUUAAAUUAGACUUUUAUUAUUAAAUGUAUUAUCUUAAUCUUUGUAUUAGGUAUGAAUGAUAUCUCUUAGAUUGAAGCUAGAGCUAUUCUUGAAUGAUUGAAAUUAAGAUUAAGAUGUGUUGAGAUGGAAAGUGGCAACACAAUGCUGAUUGAUGCUAUUUGUAAUGGGUUGGCUACAAUAAGUAGUGCUGCUGAAGUAAGACAAAUUUAUGAUUGGUGUUCCAAAAUUUUGGGAAGUCAAAUUUUGACAUUUUCAGCGGAAUGCCAAUAAAGUUGUUGAUUGCAUAGCUAUGGCAGAUGGAGGCAUAAUUGAGCAGCUGGUUAUCUUGAAAGAUCCUCUGCAUUAUGUGAGAUACUAGCUUGAAGAAGAUAUUAGACGGUCACUGGUGACUGAUGAUAAUUUUCAUUUGGACUGAUGAGCGCUUAAUUUUCUAAGCUUAUGGUCAACCAAAAAAAAUAAAUAAAUGCGUCUAAAUUGUAAUAGAGUUAACAUUUAGUGUUUAAAAAAAUCUUAAAAUUUUUUUUUCAAUUGCAGUUCAAUUCCAAAAAUAUCGAUGAUGAACCCGAACAUAAAAAUUACCAAAAAAAAAAACACAUCUAUUAUCAAACCAACAAUCCAUGUCUAAACUUAAAUUAACAAAAUUCGCCACCCAACCCAAUACACUAUUUUAUAUAUAUAUUAGAUUUAUUCUAGAUGCGCAUGUUUUAUUAUAUUUAAAAAUUAAAAUAUAUGGUUGACUGAGUUUUAGCUGAGUUGAUAUUGGUAUUAUUGUUAGUGUAAGAAAAUUUGAGUUUAAUCGUGUUCAAAUGUGUUUUAUCCUCCAAUUUAAAGGUUAGGAAAAUAUUAUUGAUAAUUAAAUUAUACCAACUUGAUGAUAUUAAAAAAAGGAUGUAUAAAAAAUAUAAGGGAGAAAAAAAAAAGGAGAAACAUAUUCAUAUUGAUGGGCUCUUUCAAUAUUAGACUUUUUUUCUCUCACAAGUAAAAGUAGUUAUGGAGAGGAUCAUGUAAAAUAAUAGCCUGAAUAAUUUUAAACGUCUCAUCAUUGCAAAAAUGAAAUAGUAGAAAAGAAAGAGUAGACAUUCUAUGAAAUUUAUAAUUCCAACCGUGAAUAAAAUAUAAAUUUUAUGAAUGUGGACAAGCAAUUUUAUUUAACUUUUUUUAAAGUCAUUUUGUUUGUUUCCUAAUCACCAUGAAAUUACUUGUCACAAUUCAUCUUUUUAAAUGAGAAACAUUUUCCACAAUUUGCCAUCACUUUAACAUACACUAACUUUUCUAUGAUUAGUCCUUUGUUUGCUUUGGGUGCAAUCUUCCAACUAGCCUCAUCCUUGGUUUUACUUUCCAACAUUUAGUGUAUUACGAGUUUUGUUUUCUUUAAAAAAUAUUUUUGUGGAUAUUAGGAGAUAAUGAAAUUAUUUUACUAUGAAAUUUUAAUAAAACUGGAAAAUAAGUCAUUUAUUUUAAGAGAUCACAAUUAAACAUUAGAUUUCCAAUUUUUUAAUUUUAAUUUUUUUUGACAAUUGCAUAAUAUUUUGAGCGUUGUAGGAAUGCCAUAACCUUCCCUACGCAUAAUCGACUCUUAAGUAUGAUGGAUCCUAGACCUUCUCCUCUAUUCUUGUACCACAAAUUGCUUCGAGUGUGGGUUCGGAAAAUCACAAAUUAAGCACAAAACCAAAAAUGAUUUUGUAACACCCCAAACCCAGCCUAGUCAUUAUGGAUUAAUGUAGACCUGAGAAGACUUAAUUACAUUUAUUAGUUUAUCAAUCAAAACUUAAUUAGAAUCCAUCAAUAUUUCACACAUAAAAAACCCAAACAUAAAAUUCACUUUUAAAUUAUUUGAAGAUAUAUUUGUAUUAUAGGAAAUGGAUUAAAUUAGUCUUUUUAUUAGUAAAUGUAUUAUUUUAAUCUUUUUAUUAGGUAUGAAUGAUAUCUCCUAGAUUGAAGGCAGAGCUAUUCUUAAAAGACUAAAGUUAGGAUUCAGAUGUGUUGAGAUGGAAAGUGACAACGCAAUGUUGAUUGAAACUAUUUGUAACGGGUUGACUACAAUAAGUAGUGCUACCGAAGUAAGACAGAUUCACGAUUGGUGUUCCAAAAAUUGGAAAGUCAAAUUUCGACAUAUUCAGCGGAAUGCCAAUAAAGUUGUUGAUUGCAUAGCUAAGGCAAAUGGAGGCAUAAUUGAGCAGCUGGUUAUCUUGGAAGAUCCUCCGCAUUAUGUGAGAUGCUAGCUUGAAGAAGAUAUUAGACAGUCACUGGUGGCUGAUGAUAAUUUUCAUUUGGACUGAUGAGCGCUUAAUUUUUUAAGCUUAUAUUCAACAAAAAAAAAAUUAAAUACGUCUCAAUUGUAAUAGAGUUAACAUUUAGUGUUUAAAAAAUAUCUUAAAAAUUAUUUUUUCCAAUUGCAAUUCAAUUCCACAAAUAUCAACGAUGAACCUGGACAUAAAAAUUACAAAAAAAAAAAAACACAUCUAUUAUCAAACCAGCAAUCCAUGUCUAAACUUAAAUUAACAAAAUUUGCCACGCAACCCGAUACACUAUUUUAUAUAUAUACUAGAUUUAUUCUAGAUGCACAUGUUUUAUUAUAUUUAAAAAUUAAAAUAUAUGGUUGACUAAGUUUUAGUUGAGUUAGUAUUGGUAUUAUUGUCAGUGUAGGAAAAUGUGAGUCUAAUUGUGCUCAAAUUUGUUUUAUACUCCAAUUCAAGGGUUAGGAAAAGGUUAUUGAUAAUUAAAUUAUACCAACUUUUAUGAUAUUAAAAAAAGGAUUUAUAAAUAAUAUAAGGAAAAGAAAAAAAGAGAGAAACAUAUUCAUAUUGAUGGGCUCUUUCAAUAUUAGACUUUUUUUCUAUCACAAGUAAAAAUAUCAAAGGUGAUAAUAAUUAAAUUAUAAAAUUUAAAUUGAGAAAAUAGGGGAUUGAAUUUAUAACUUUUAAAGUAUAAAGAAUGAAUUUAUAACUAACAACAUAUUUUAACCACACAAUAAAAGUAGUUAUGGAGAGGAUCAUGUAAAAUAAUGACCUGAAUAAUUUUAAACGUCUCAUCCUUGCAAAAAUGAAAUAAUAGAAAAGAAAUAAGUGUUGGGUGUAGUGGCAAUGUACAUUAUACUUCUAAGGGGAGAUCAGGGUUUUAUACAAGGGAAGAAUUUUAAACCUGCUUUUUUCUCUAGAACUCAACGCAAACCUCAAAUUUAUCUUUUUAUAAGAAUUUUAAUAUAUCUAUAUAAAAGGUGAUUUUUUUGCCGAUCACACUUAACAAAAUUUUAAAUUUUUUUUUUUGAAAUUUAAAGUGAUCUAAAAACAUAUUUUUAAGUGCUUUAGACCAUCCUGUGUUGAUUUCUUUAGUAAUUUGAUUUGUUCAAUAUAGAUUUUGGUGACUUAACACAAAAUUAAUAAAAAAUAUUUUUUCAGAUAUCUUUUUAAUGUUUAAUAAUAAGUUAAUUUAUAAAAUAUACUUUCAUAGGACACAGGCCUCCAAGGCGGUGAACCACUAAUGAAAUUAAUUUUGAGAUACUUAAAUUUGUUUUCAUCAAUUAAGAAAUUUGAAAAAUUGUUGAGACCUCAUGAUUAUCUUUUAUAAUUUCAGGCUUAUCACCAAAAAACUAAAAAACAAAAUCGUCGACAUUAAAUUUGUUGGCAUGCAAUCAAUUUUAAGAUGGUUUUUGGAGUUAUAUAUCACUUUAGCAUGGACUUACUUUUCUACAGUUAGUCUUCUCCAACAAGUUAAAUAUUUCAAUUUUAACAACAUUGACAGGUCUUUGGGGUAGGGUCGAGCAAAACUCAAUAGAAAUAGAUGAUAUAGAUUGAGUUAGCUCGGCCAAGUCGAGUCGACUUGUUCAAAUUAGUUAAAUUAGUAAAUUUUAGGGUGCAGUUAGAAUUUUUUUUUGUUUUGAGAUGCUAAGAUUAAAAAAUUUCAGUUGCUAAAACAAAAAAAUUGUAUUUAAAAAAAGGCAUAAAGAAAGGCUGAAUGACAAAUUGCCCAAAGCCCAUGCCCCUAGCUAUACGCCCCUGGUAAAAUCAAUUUUAAAAUUAGUUAUAAUAGUUGAAGCGAUUGAUUAUUGAGGAAUGAAAUACAUAGUUCAACAAAAUAAAUAAGUUGACAAAUUUUGACAAAAAAAAUCAAAAAUAAAAUAAUAGAAAAGAAAGAGUAGCCAUUUUAUGAAUUUAUAAUUCCAACCGUGAAUAAAAUAUAAAUUUUAUGAAUGUGGACAAGCCAUUUUAUUUAUAAUUUUCUGUGUUUUUCUUCUUUUCCUGACUUUUUUUUAAAGUCAUUUUCUUUGUUUCCUAAUCACCAUGAAAUUACUUGUCACAAUUCAUCUUUUUAAAUGAGAAACAUUUUCCACAAUUUGCCAUCACUUUAACAUACACUAACUUUUCUAUGAUUAGUCCUUGGUUUGCUUUGGGUGGAAUCUUCCAACAAUUAGUGUAUCACGAGUUUCGUUUUCUUUAAAAAAUAUUUUUGUGGAUAUUAGGAGAUAAUGAAAAUUAUUUUACUAUGAAAUUUUAAUAAAACUUUAAAAUAAGUAAUUUAUUUUAAGAGAUCACAAUUAAACAUUAGAUUUCCAAUUUUUUAAUUUUACAAUUUUUUGACAAUUACAUAAUUAAUAAGGUACCAAUGUUGAGCGUUGUAGGAAUGCUAUAACCUUCCCUAAACAUAAUCGACUCUUGAGCAUGAUGGAUCCUAGACCUUCUCCUCUAUUCUCGUACCACAAAUUGCUUUGAGUGUGGGUACGAACAAUCACAAAUUAAACACAAAACCAGAAAUGAUUUAUUACUUUUAAUAGCAAAGUAAUUCUCUCUCAAUAGAAACCAAUAGAAUUGUAAUUCCCAUAAAAUAAAAUUUAUUUUCUGAAAUAUAUUCUCACUACUUUCUAGCAGAGUAACAAUAUUUAAAACUUAUGUCUUGUGUUAAUAGCUUUACUAGCACUAUCUAUUUAUAGGGAGAGAGAUGAGAGUCCUGGUUGAAUUAGUAAAACACGAAUAAUAUUUAUUUCAUAGAAGACAAUUUCAUAGAAAACUUAUGUCUUGUGUUAAUAAUGUUGAAUUUGUAUGUACAAGUUUCUAAUACACUUGUUGGGACAUUCUUUGACUUUUAUCUAUUCUCUCAAAAAGUUAAAGUUCAAAGUUGCAUUAAACUCAAAUAAGAUAACCAUUAGCAAACCAGCUCACAAGCCUGCUCAAGCUAAUCCUACAAGUCAUUCCACUUCAUCAUCAAGCACCAAUGUUCUUGCUUAUCCUUAUGGAAUUAAACAAAAGAAAAAAGCUCUUUAAGAGUUAUUUCAAUAGACUUCUUUAAUGGUAAAUGACAAUCCACUCUAUUGAUGCUUCUUCGCCCAACUCAUGAUUUAAAAGAAGUUUAUACUCAUGGAUCAAGUGUAGCUCACCAGUUAUCAUUAAGGAGAAAAAAGAGUCAAUCAAGUGAAAAUUAUAUUCCAACAUCCCCCCUGAACCAAAUUUUAGAGUGAUGAAUGUCAUGACAACUGACACUACAUUCUUAGAAGAAUAAGUAGAUCUCUAGCAAAAACGAUGGAGAGUCUUACUACAAGCAUAAAAGGAAUGGAUGAUCAAAUUGAACAUCUUAGAGGAAGUAACCAAACCUUUUCCUACGAAACUCAACAUCCUCUUCACAAAGUUGUUGGAAUCAAAAUUGUUGAAGGACUUUAAAGUGUUUCUUUAGAUCAAGUUAAGGAGCUCAUUAAAGAAACCAUUAAAGAUCAAGUCAAAAGUGUUGCUCUACCUUCAUAUACAUACUUGAAGCCAUACAUUUGAAGGGCUUAUCAUUUGAAUAUGCCUGAACAUUAUCCACCUCCAAAAUUGCAAUAGUUUGAUGGUAAAGGAAAUCUAUGUAAACAUGUCGCUCACUUCGUGGAAACUUGUGAUUGCGUCGAUGUAACACCCCACUCGCGACCUAAUCGCUGGAUUCGAGAAGAGAGAUACCGAAAUCAUGUUGGAAAAAUCUAGUUUGAAAAUGGUUUUAUUUAUAGAGGAAAAUAAAAAUUUUGAAAACUGACUCGGUUUGUGAUAUUUAUGGCAAUAAAUGUUAAACUGAAAUCAUAAAUGUGCUUUUGAAUAAGCAAAUCCUUGAUGUUUUCUAGCUUUAAACCAAAUUAUCUUCUUCACUAUUCUCAUACCACAAAAUGCUUUGAAGUGUGGACUUGAACCAAUUGAAUCAAAACACAAAACUUGAAAAAGCUUUUUAUUCUUUUCGGGGUGAAACCUAAAAUUUUCUCUUAUUUAAUAGAAACCAGUAGAAAUGUUUAUUUUGGAAAAAUAUAUUUAAUAGUUAAGAAUAAAUUCUCCUUAUUUUUCAAUAGAGUAACAAUCUCUCAAAGUUGUAUAUAAAUCCCUACUGAUGCCAGAUAUUUUUAAGAAGAGAAGAUAGAACCCUUGUGGAAUUGUAGAAGCUUAUUUCAACUAGAAAAAUAACUUCCUACUUAGAGUAGGAGCAGGUUGGAUGGCAUCCCCUGUCGCCCCUUCGUUUUCCAUGAAGGGAUUUUGGAUCUCUCUCACAUUAGAUCCAACUAUGAGUGCUUUUCGAGCAUUUAGACUCAGUACUUUGUAAUUUGACCCAACUCAAUUCUAUUUUUUUAUUUCCCAAAAUAAACUUCAAUAUUUUAUAUUAAAUAAUUUUCUCAUCCAAAUUUUACCCUCAAUAGAAUUUUUGAGAAAAUAUAUUUAAUAUUUCACAAUUCAACUUGUUCAUUAUGAUCGAAUGAUUUAUUUUCAUUUUCUAGAUUUUAUAUAGCUGAAAAACAUAAACUCAUUCUCCUGAUCAUUUUUAAGUAUAUUCAUCUACAUUUGAAAAUGAAUCAUUUCUCAUUUUCGUUUCCAAAUGAUUUCAUUUCUCCAUUUCGAAGAAAUGUAUAAUCAUUCCUGAAUGUUUGUCAUUUCUUUAUUUCUAUUCAUUUCGAUUCAAACAUGCAAUUCAUUUAUGGUUUCAACGAGCUAGUGAAGGGACUAAUUGGACAUAUACAAUUAGGGCUCAAAUGAUUUAUAUUUGAAGUUUCAACUUUUCAUCUAUUAAUUAUAAACUCAUUUAGUCAUGAAGUCAUUCCACUAUAGUAUCAUGGCUGAGCUUGUGGUUCCCCAAACUUGGACGAGACAGUCUGACCCAAAAUUUGAAACUUACAUUAGCCACCAAAAUGAUUCUCUGUUAAAAUACUACAAAACAGACCAACCAACCAUGCAGGCCACACAUUUUCAACAUAAAUCAUAAUACAAUUAAUCCUAAUUGCAUGCCUUUCUAAACAUACCAUAAAAAAUGAAGAAAAAAAAUUCAUAUUUAGGUCACCUGUGAACCCACCCACUUAGAAACCUAGUAGCACGCAUCAACUUGGCGAGCACCAGCUGAAGACCUCCUCGCGACCCCCAGCUCAUUGCUAGCCCUACGAACCACUAGUUUGCUACUACCCUGUGAUCCCUAAAUAUUGGCAAACCUAGACACACAACUCCCCUUUUAUUUUAAUAGACUACUCAAGUCGUUGGCUCACUUGCGAACUCCUCUAUUUAGUGAACCUACCUAAUAAGGCAAACUCACUAUCCUGACGUACGCAUUAACUAUGGAGAACCUUCUAUUGCUUGGCGUACUCCCUCCUAAUGGCAAACACUAGGUUAUAUAGGGCUAGUCUAUACUAGCGGACUCCCUAUACUUUGGCGAACACUCUAUUAGGGAACUUAUGGUUUUUGGUGAACACACUUUUGUUUGGCGAAACCUACCUUUGGUGAACUCACCCCUAUUGUUGAACACUGUGUUAUGGUAAGGUCCUAUUCCCUUAUGACCCCUGUCUCACACUAUGCUAGGUUGGCUCGUAAGUAUUCUUUCAAUGCGUUAUUACUUCUAUAACAUGCAUUCUAUGUUAUCACUUUAUCUCAACCAAAAAAUUGGUUCAAGGGCGUACCUCAAAAUUCGGCGAACUCCUUGUUUUACAUAAGUAUGUUAGUUCAUCAAUUUACCUAGCAAAAUCAUGUAUUAUAAUCCAAACAAUCAAGCAUUCAAUCAAGCACUUAUAAAGUCUAAAAAUCCAAAAUUUAAAUAGUUCGUAAUAUCUGUUUACAACUUGUCAAAGUUUAUUUAAAAAUUCUAGGUCUACAUCUGAUUCCUUAGGAUAGUCCCACAUUGCCUUCAACUAUAGGGUUUGUAAAAACAAAUCACGUACUCGAAUGGAUUUGCCUUAUGUUGCAUCACUAGAUUGCCAUGCUUCACAACUAGUCACGUGAACUACUUAUCUGCAAGAUAUAUGCAAGGAGUGUGAGCUUAUUGAAGCUCAGAGAAUGCUUAAGCACACAACACAUAAAACACAUCAGUCAUGCUAAAAUUUAGACAUGUUGUAACAAUUCACAUAAAAUAUAAUAAUCAUGCUCGUCAUAGUAAAAUAAUGGCAAUUUGUGAAUAUGAAACAUAAUCAUAUUAUAUAUGCAUUGGAUAAGUAGAUCUUUAGAAUACUCCAAAUGACAUAGAGAGUCAUGCGCUAUCUUUGAUAAGUGUAGUAUGAAUGCUCACACUCUCCAAACACUCCAUACUAUCCUCAAAAUUGGAGCUAAGCUCGACAUUCCCUUAUCUCUCCAAUGCUAUCUUCAGGCCAUAAUGCCCCAUCAUAUAGUAAAAAUGGUGAGUACUCACAAUCCUAUGACAUGCCAAUGAUAUCUAACGGUUUCAAGUGUUCACAAUGCCAACAUAUGAUUUUUAUUUCAUUCACUUUACACAAUUUAAAAGGCCCACAAUAUAGUAGAUCUCACAUAUAAUAGUUCUUAAUAACACAACUCACAUUUUUGUAGGGCUCGCAUGAUACAUAAGUUCGUAAUAACAUAGAUUCGCAUAACACUUAUGGCUCACAUAUAUUUAGGGCUCGAAUGCAACAUUUGGGUUUCCAUAUAUUUAAACUAGCAUAAUACAGGGGCUCGCGUAACAUGUUUUGGCUUGCAUGUAAUAUAGGGCUUGAUCACAUAUAUAGGUUUGCAUGAUCUUAGGGUUCGCAUCACAUAUAUAAGUACGCAUGAUACAUGGGUUCACUCAACAUGUAUAUAUAAACUUGCACAUCAAAGUAUAGGCUCGCAUGCAUUAAGGUAAUAGAUUUUGCAAACAAUUUAGAGCUAGCACACAUCUUAGGCUUGCAUACAUACAUGUUAGCAAGGUCUGCAGGUCACAAAUCGGGGCUCGAAUAACUAUAGAGGCUUGCAUAGAAAUAUAACAGUGUUCGCAUAUCAUUUUAAUCAGCUUCACACAUUAAAUCAGAUAGUUUGUAUGCCUUACUUGGCUUUCAUUAGCAUGCGAACUCUUGUUUUUGACGUAGUGUGUAAGGACACUCACUAGUUGUUUGUUGAUACUGUCAAACCUAUACCACAUUUUGCUUGACUUUUUCCUUGCUUGUAGAUGCACCUUUAUAUUGAGAGGCUUUGCAUAAAACAAGAAAAUAUACAGAUUGCUACUUUCACAAACAUAUUAACCUUCUUAACUAACAUAGCAGCUCACCACUUCUAAAUUUACCGAACUCACCUCAUGUGACCUUAAACUUUUAGUUACUUUAUUUUAGUUCAAUUAAAUCCCCAAUUAUUACUUCCUAAUCUCAUAAGUAAGGUUUAAUUAUAGAUCUAGGCCAUUAAUUUUAGUCAAUUCUUAAAAUCAACAUUUUUCAAAAAAUCAUGCUCAUUUUCUAUCUCAAGAAGAAAAAUCACUUGAUUCAUGCAAUUCCUUUAAGGAUUUGUUAAAUCAAGUUUAUAAACCUCUUAAUUAUGCCAAAAUGAGUUAAAAAUUAUUUUAAAAUCAUGACUUAGCUCACUAUUAUGAGAUUCACCAUUUUUUUAUAUAAACCAAGCUUUAAAGCCAUAGAUCCAAUGAUUUCUCUUGAAACUUCAGGUGCAGUGCACUAACUAUGAAUAAUGUGGACUGAAUAUGUUUUUGGUACUCCAUGGAACUCCUCCUUCAACCACAAAAUCCCAACCCAAUUUAUAUGCAAUAUGUCACACAAUCUCAUACAUAAUCCUAUCUUAAUACUUUUCACAUUCAUUUGACAUGCUCAGCAUGUCCUCAAUAAUCACAUACUUUCAUACUUUUAGAAAAUGGAAACAGUGUUCCAAAGUUUCAAUUACCAUUGUGUUGGUAUCAAUCAAUAUCAUUCAAUUACACAUACUUUAUAGAUUUCCAUUGUGUUUAAAUAGCACCCUUUUCAAUACACAAUAUAAAAAAUAUCUCAUGCAUUUAAUCAUACAUAAGCUUUAUAUCUCAACACAUUAUAUCAUUCAGUCAAACAUUCUCAUAUCUUAUAAUUCAAAUAUGCAAUUACAAACUCAAUCAAACAUUCAUACUAUCAAACUAGCAAUUUUGCCAACAUGUUAAUCUUUUAAGGCUCAAAACAUAAUUGGUUCAGCCACUCACAAAAUCAAUAAUUUGGCUAUUAAGCCAAUCCAAUCAACAAGCUAAUUUAUCACAUAUAACAUGAUAUUUAACAUUUUCAAAAAAAAUUAUAAGUUUAGGACCCACGCAUUAUUUUUUGCUUCCUCGCAACAUACUAGCGAAUCUUCCAAUCUUCCUUAAUAAUUCCUUAAACGAACCUAAACCAAAAUGAAGCAUAAAUUCAAUCAAUUUACCAUUAAGCCAACCCCCAAACACCCACUUGUGAGUUCAAACUGAUCAUUGAAAUUAAAACUACUUUAUGAAUCCAAACUAGUUAGAUUCCUUAAACUGUAUCGAUGCAAAUCGUACGUACAAUCGUUCUUCACCUUUAUGGAUGAUUGGGGGUGUUUGGGUCAGCACCUAAUUCAAUAAUAUACUGGAAAAUCAGUAGUUAAUCAAUGAUUAACUUUCUUUAUUUAACCAAUUCAUAACCUUUACCCAACAACUAUGCCAAAAUAACAAACUAGUUUACAAUUAAUCGUACUUAUACUUCUCAAAUUAUAAGAUUCGAAUGGCUAAUUGAUCAAGAAUGUCUUUUGUAACAUCCCAAAAAUUAGGUUAGAAGAAAUGAGAUUUUGAAACCAAGAGUGGUCAUCCCUCGAUUAUGAGUUUAUAUCUUGGAAAAUUUGACAAGUAAAUUGAUCUGGCUUAAUGGUUAAUUGCUAUGGUUAUAUGUGUUAGGUUCUGGGUUCAAAUCUUGUUUUUGGAAAAUUUGUUACUUUUCUUAAACCCUUACCUUGAAUGUUUGGCUUUUAAGUUAAAUUUAGUCAAUUGAGGUCAAGAAUGAGCCUGUUGGUUUAAUGGUUAAGUUUCUGCAUAAUCCUUGGUCUUGUGUUCGAAUCUCAGCGAAAGCAACAGGGAAUGUUUUGUUUUUGAAUUUUUUAUAAGGUAGUUAGUUUCGAUUGGUUAUUUAAAGCCUUCUAGAAACCUCCGUUGCUUUUACUUUUAUUUUGUUCUUUCUUUUUCUACAAUGUUUUCUAUCAUUUUGUUUUCGAUCUUCAGUUUCCUCAUUUUGGUUUUUUAUUUUCAAGCAACCUUCUUUUUGUUAUGUUACGUUACACUAAUUGUGUAUAAGGUUUAACUUCUCCUUCUAGUUAAUUUGCUGGUUGGUAAGUUCAAUUUAAAGUUUUGGUGUCGAAAGUUCUUUAACAUAACUUCAAUUUUGGAAUGUUAGUUUCUAGUGGUUUGACUGCGAAUUAAUCGUUUGUUAGGGAAUUGCUUGUCGUUUAGGGACCUGAAUUUAUCCUUGUUACUCCUACAUCGAGUUCGUAUCAAGUGGGUAUCAAAAAUAUCUUCUUCUUCAAAUUUUAGUCGUCGAAGAAUAGGACUAUCAAUGCCACAUGGUCAUGCGCAAACUAUCUAGGUACAAUCUGUAUUCUAUUAAGUUUGUUGGUAUGCCUCUGCAUUACUCUAUUGAUAAAGAAUAUGUGACAUUUGAUUAUGUUAGAUUGGUUGUUACUGAUUCUAAUUUAUAACCCUCUGUUUUACUUUAUAGAUGUGGAAUACACAAUAUCUGAAAAUGUUAGACUAAUUGUUACUGAUUCUGAUUUAUUGUCGUGCAUGUGACUUCAUGGCAAAUAUGAUAUGAUCUGUUGAGGUUUGAUAGGUCUAUUUUCCAAAACAUGGACUCUCAUGUCUCCUAAUUCUGUUAUUGAAAGAUAUCAUAACUUACAUGCUCAUCACUCUGAUUCUGCAUAUGUAUGUCAUGACACGUUGCAUGGGAUUUGGGUUGAUGUGAAAGGUAAAAGUUACUGGCAGUUAAUGAUCCGCAUUAUCUGAGGUUUAUCCUCAAUUCUGUUUCGGCAGCUUAGUUGUACUAUAUUAACUUGACCACAUGUAACCGAUAUGGCAGUCUUAACUACAAAAUUCUAGUGGCACCAUCCACAGUUAUCUGUUGGUGUGAUUUGGCUAGACGAGUUCUGAGGGAACUCUAUUUUGGAUUGUAGUGGAGUUUUGGUAGGAUGUUUUCUGAUAAUUCUGCAUUCUGAUCUAUUUGAGAAAUACAACAUCUUCAUAACACAUUUUCUACUUUGCUCUAUUCUGUUCUAUUCUGUUCUGCUCUCUUCGGUUCUAUUCUAUUUGAUUUGUUAUGUUCUGCUUCAUUCUGUUGUGCUUGGUUCUAUUGUACUAUCGUUAUGGAAAUUUUCAUGAUAUUCUCGAUCUAUUCCAUACUAGCUAUAAAACUAUUAUUAAGUUCUUUGAGUUACUUUGAUUUAUAUAAUAAAAUCUAUUUAUUUGUAUCUAAGUUUGGUUAUACGCGACGCUUGGUAGUUCUCCCUUUGUCUUAUCUUAAUCUAUUUAGGUGGAUGUUUUACAUUGAUAUAACUAUGAUUUGAUCUUUUAGGUUGUAAUUUGUUUUUGGACUUGCAUUGCUUUUCUUUUGAUAAUCUCAUCAAUAUUUGUCAUUUUCUUACACAAAAAUAAAAAAACCACCUAAGUCGACUAAAAUGAAUUUCUGGUUUUCAAUGUUAAAAUUUUGAAAAGAAAUUAGUUUUCUACAUGUUGGUGUAGCUCGUCCAAAUUUGACUUAAACUUCUAGGUUGGGUUUGGGGUGUUGUAUCUUUCCAUAAUUAACAUGUGAUUAAUCUUUUAUUAGGAGGAUUCAAGAACUCAACUUAAUGAUGGAAAAAUAUAGGUAAGAACCAAGAAACAAAACAACCCCCUUUCUUGCACACAGGCGUACGCACCACCACCCAUGGUGGCCAAAAUUGGGGAAGAAUUUUAAAAUGGUUUGAAAUCUCAUUAAAAUCUAGAAAAAUACAAUUGAAUUCAUUUAAAAUCCCCCAAAUUCCAGAUCUAAAAAUUUUUCUUUUUAAUUGACAAAAUUAAUUAAGAAUUUGAAGAGAAAAGAGAUCUUCCCAAGCUAGUUAAAAGAAACGACAAUGACACUUUCUUGGCAAUGUUCAAGAUUGAUCUUGGGUUCAAGAUUUUAGAAUUGGGGAUGAUUUAGAUGAGAAAAAAUGGUAGGAAUAGAGUAAAGGAGAUGGUGUACAAUCUUGAUGCAAAAAGAAGAAGAAAGAGUUGGUAAAUGGGAGGUGUAGGCGACGACAACAAUAGGAGAAAGAAAGAAAAUUAAAGAGAAAAGUGGAGAGGAAGAUGGUGAACGGAUAGAGUAGGGAAAAUUUGAAUUAAAGGCUGAAAAAUACAAUAAAAAUUUCUAUUUAUACUUAGGGUUCAAGGGUAUGGAUCGCACAUACAUUUAAAAAAAUAAAGGAUUUUACGAAAUUUAAAAUUUCGUAAAGGAAAGGAUUCGAAAUUGGGACCUCAUUUAAUUUUCAUGUGUUCUCAUAUUUCUUUUAACCAUUAUGAUAUUUUCUCAUUCUUAAAAUCAUUUUACAAGAUUUAGUUUAAAAAUAAGGCAUGCCACAUUCUAGGGUUUAAGGCAAAAUUAGCAAAAUAAUAAAAAUAGUGAGAGAGAAGGGAUUUGAACUUGGGUUUCAUGGAAUGUUUGACUAACACUUAUCCAACAAACCAACACCUUAUUGAUUUCCUAAAAAUGCAUAGAUAAUCUCAAAAAUUAAGGCAUGACCACUCUUUCUCGAUUCACAAACCCGAUUAUGCUAAACCCUAAUUUUUGGAAUGUUACAAGGUAAGUUUGUAGUGUAACAAUAUAUAUGUGUGUGUUUUAGGGAUACGAUUGGCAUGCCAAUAGGGUUAGUAUGCAUGCUUGUACUGGAUCACACUUUGGUUCUUCUCUUUACACUUUGGUGCCUCUCUUUGCACUUCAGUGCCACUGUAUUUGCACUACAGUGCCUCUAUUAGCAUUUCGAUGUUUGGGGGAAACCCAAGUAUCGAAGUCAUUUUGCUGUAGUUCAACAUGCUGUGAAAUUUUAUGUUUAAAUGUUAAAUUACUCUUGAAUUUGAUUUAUAUACAAUGAUAUAUUUGUGUAUCUAUGUACAUAAGCAUUGAUUGCUUUGGUUUGAGCCAUUGUUUAUAUUGAAUCAUAUGAGAUGAAUGUUUUGAUUACUAUAGUUUGAGAAUAAAUAUUAAUUCCUUGGUGUAAUUAUAUGAUUCAUAUGUCUUUAAACAUGUUAUCUAAUUAUGUUUAUGGUGUGUUUAGAGAAUUAAAUUAUUAUAUGAGUAUUUUCCAGGUAUUCAAUGUUGUUUCAUUUGGUUUAAUGGGUAAAUAAAGCUUUAAAGGGUAUGUGAUUACACGAAAUGCACUACGAUAUUUGAGCAAUGAUAUGGAUCAUGAUGAAAUGUUUAAUUGAAAAGGAAAUAUGGUUUAGUAUAUAUAUAUGAGUGGUGAAUUAUGAAAGUGAAAUAUAGAUAUGUUAUAUACCAUGUUUUAUUCAAAUUAUAUAUGAUAUGUUACACCAACUAACCUUGUGAGGUGGUGGGUAUAGGAAAGGAAAGUUGGCUUAAAACAUAAUGAAAUUAUGCCUGCCUUUUUAACAUAAAAUAUUCAGUAAAUUAAGUUUCCUUUAUAUGAACUUACUCAACAUUAGUUGCUUGCAUAGUUAUUUUUCUUUAUUUUAUAGUUCAUCAGAAGCUCGACCGGUUGGAAUCAUGUCAAAGCACGAUCACACUAUCCAUUCAACAUUUUGAUAGCUUUUUUUAUUUUGGUAAAUGGUUAUAAAUGACAUGUAAUAGGGUUUAAAUGUCAUUCUAGUGAUUUGACUUGUUUUGAGUUGUGUCAAACUUCUUGUGAUUGAUGUUGUUAGUUGUUGGCAUGUAAAUAAUGGUGUAAAUAUGUGACAGCCCAAAAUUGACCCUAGUCGGGAAGUGGUUUCGGGACCGCUAAACCGAGUCACCGAAAGGUUUGAAUGUGAUGUUUAUUAUCUAGAAUAUGUAAUAAUGAAUGUGUGAAAAUUUCAAGCUUCGAUUUAGUCGAUUGCAUGCGAGUUUAGUCAAUAGGACUUAUAUGAGAAAAACUUUAAAAUGUGAUAGGUCAAUGCAUGAGGACCUAUUAGUGCAUGUGGAAGAAAAAGGGGACUUGCAUGUCAAAUUCCCCCUCCCUAAUAUGUAGUGGCCGGCCAUGCUAUGGGUGGAAACAUGUCACCAACAUGUUGUGUUAGUGAUGUAUGGUAAGGAAAAUAAAAUAUUAAGCAUGAUAAUUAAAAUAAAUUAAAGAAAGGAAUUAAACAAUGAAAAGGAAGGGUGAUGAAAAAAAUGGUCUCAUCCAUACCCCCCCCCCUUGUUGCCGUGAGUUGAGGAAAGAAAACAAAAAAAAAUGUGUGUUCAUUCUUGAACACCUUUGGCCGAAUAGAGGAAAGAAAGGAAGGGGAAGAGCUUGAGAAAAUCGGCUAUGGUGGUUUGCUAGACUAAGGUAUGUUUGAUGUUGUUCUUGAGAUGCAUGCAUGUUUUAGUAGUUGACUUGAGUUCUAAAAACCCAUGGUUCAAUUUUGUGGAUUGAUGAAGAUUUUGUGUUUUGCCAUUGAUGAGUGCUUGAGCUUUUUGAUAGUUGUUGAUGAAAAGUGAAAGAUAUGUUAAAGAUUAAUAUGUUUUGUGUUGAAGUUUUUGGUGAUUUUGAGUAGUUAGGGCUAUAUUACAAAAACAAAUUUUUGAAGGACUCAAAGGUGAAAUAAAUGAGAUGUAUGGACUUAUAUGGGCACUAGGAAGAUUCGGCCCUUAAGGAGUGUGACCAAACUUUGUGUAUUUUGUGUUUUGUGGAAUAAAGACUAAAUUGUGAAAGUGCGAAAUAUUAGGGGUAAAAAUGUAAUUUACCCAUUUAUGCGUUAUUAGACUAAAUUGAAUGAAAAUAUGUUAAAUUAAGGCUUGGCAAGCUAGCUAUUAAGGUGAAAUGCUAAUGUUAGUAUUUGAUUCGGUAAUAAUCUGUUUGGGGACAGCAGCAGUAAGGUGAUUUUGGAAAAUCGCCAUAAUUUGUAGGAGUUGAAUUAGAAGCUGAGUGAAUUAUGCCAUUAAAGCUUGAAGAGUCUAUUUUCUUACAAAAGAAACUAUGAAAACAAAAGAGUUACCGAUCUUGAGAUAUUUGAAGUAUUGUGGGGCUGAGUCAAAAUGACUACUAGAUUCCCUGUUCUGUUUUUAGAAAAUCAUUAUAAAUUGUACAAAAAUUAUUAUAAGAUAAAAUUUAUAUGCUUAGACUCCUUAAUGAGUCUAGUUUCAAAUGAGAUCAAAUACAACACAUUUUGAAUUCUGUAAAAUGAGAAAUUUGAUUCGUAGUGAAGAGUGGUCAGAAUAGUCAAACAGUGAAACAGGGGAAACUUUAAGAAAAAUCUGGUAUUGAUUGGCCAAGCCAAAAAUUCUGAAAAUUUUAUGGAUGGAAGAUAUAUGAGUCUAUAUUCAGGGAAAAUUAACAGCUAGUGAUUUGGAGUUUUGUAGCUCCAGUUAUAAACAAUUUAGCGACUACUGCUCAGGAAAACAGCUCGUAGUGAAUAUGUGAUUUUGUUGUAAACAUUAAUGAAAAUUUGCCAAUGAGUUAUUUAUUGACUAUUACAAAGCUUACUAUAAUCUAUGUGUGUGAAAGUCAAAUCAAUAUAUAUAUUAUUCUGAAAGUAAUACUUGAAUAGUCGAUUAAUGACUAUUUUAAGUUAUUGAUUUGGCUCAAGGAGUUAAAGGAGGUGAAUCGAGCAAAGGCAAAGAAAAGGUUAUCGAGUAGCCGAGUUGGAACCGUCUUACCCAACACGAGGUAAGUCAUUAAGCAUGUAGUUGGUAUUAUUUCAAUGGUCAUAAUGUUUAUGUAUUGAUGCUGAAUGGAAUGAAUAAAUAUACAUAUAUAUAUAUAUAUGUGCAUGUACGUAUGUGAUGAUGAGAUUGUUGAAUGAAAGAAAAGAGGUAAGAUGUACUGAGUUGUUGAUCUCGGCACUAAACGUGCGGGAUAACCAUUUAUGACCAUGAGAUUGGCGCUAAGUGCGCGGGAUUAAAUUGUACAGCACUAAGUGUGCGAUUUGACUAUGUUGCACUAAGUGUGCGAAAUGAAUAUGAUGCACUAAGUGUGCGAAUUGACCAUGCGGCACUAAGUGUGCGAGUUUGACUAUGUAGCACUAAGUGUGCGAUUUGAUUAUGUAGCACUAAGUGUGCGAGUUGAUUAUAUAGCACUGAGUGUGCGGACUCGAUAUACAUUCGUGAAUCAUUAUGGACACUAUGUGUGCGACACUAUUGAGUCGAUCGCGGACAGCGGAUCGGGUAAGUGUCUUGAGUACAUGGCUAAUAGGUGCUAUGCUUAUACUUGGUGUUGAGCUCGGUAAGUUUGAACCUAUGUGACAAAUAUACUUGAAGUCACGUACAUAAAAUUUAUCGUAGGAUUGGUGAAAGGCCGUUUAGUCGUUUGAUUGUAACGAAAAUAAAUUGAUUUAUGAAAAUGCUUCAAUGUCCUAUUGAUGAGUAUAUGGAAUGUGAAUGCAUGAAUUGAUAUGAAAUUGAAUUGAUAGGUUGGAGGAACUAUGGUAUGGUUCGGAAUGGAUGGAGUAAUUAGCCUCGUUCCAUUUUGUUUUCUCUUGUGAUAAUGUUAUUGAUGGAUGGUAGUGCAUAGCUUAUGACUUACUGAGUUAUAAACUCACUCGGUGUUUCCUUGUCACCCAUUAUAGGUUGCUUGGACUCAUCUAUUUUUUUGCGUGGUCGGGCCGUCAUCGAAGUCAUCACACCGGAUAGCAAGUUUUGGUACUUUCUUCUUAGUUGGCUUAGAAGAACAUUUUGGCAUGUAUAAGCUAUUACGUUGUGUUUGAACUUUGGCAUGUAAACUUUAAGCCAUGUGAAAAUGGCACGAAUGUUCGAUUGAGUUGGAUCAAGGGUAGGCAUGAAAUGGACCUAGUUACUUUCGUAACAGAUGCUGGCAGCAGCAGUGUCAUGAGAUUGAAAAAUCAUUAAAAAUAGUAGGAGUGGAAUUAAUUGAUGAAUAAAUUAUGUAAUCGAAGCUCGAUGAGUCUGUUUUCAUGAGGAAGUAACGAAAAGAUCAUAUGGGCAGUAUAUUAAGAGAUAAUCAGAUUUUUGUGGGACAGGGCCAGAACGGUUUCUGGAUUCCCUUCUCCGACUUUGGAAAUUCAUUACAAAUUAACCAGAGAUAAUUAGGGGUCGUACCAUAUAUGUACAGAUUCCUCUCUGAGUCUAGUUUUCAUAGAAAUAAACGGCAUCAGUAUUGGAGCCCCGUGCAGGGAGAUAUCCAAGUCGGAAUGGGAAAAGGUCAGUGUAGUCGACCCCUGCAACUGGGGAGACUUUGACUAAUAAACUGUACUAAUUGGCCCGACCAAAAAUUCUAGAAAAAAAUACAUAGAUGGGCACAUGAGUCUAGUUUCUGGGAAAAAUUACGAAACUGAUUUUCGAGUUAGGAAACUCAAGAUAUGAUUUUUAAAACGACUAGUACACGGAUUGGGCAGUGUCUGGAAAAUAAAUUUUGUAAGGGGUUAAAGCCAGUUAACACCUCGUGUUCGACUCCGGUGUCGGUUUCGGGUUCGGGGUGUUACAAAAUAUGUGUGGUUGGACCCUUAUGCAUGCUUUAUUGAUUAAAGAUAUCAUAUGGUAAAAUGGCAUGUUUUUGGAAUGGUUAUUUGGCAUGAUUAAAAUAGGUUUAAGUUUUGAUCUUGAGACGUUGAAUUGAAUUAAGUUUAAGAUGUAUAUUGUGAUACCUUCAUUGGCAUAUUUGUUAGAUAUUAAAGGAUGGUUGAUUUGGUAUGUUUUUGAAAUGGUUGUUGGUAUGUUUGAUCUAAGUUGAUUAAAUGAACUUGUAAUGUUCAACGGUAUAAUACUUGUUGGUACAUUAGUUAGUCUUAUAGGUUGAUGGAAUUGGUAUGUUUUAAAUGUGUUUAAAAUAUGUUUUGGUUAUUUCAAUGUUUGUGGAAAUGGUGUGUCUUGGUGUACAAGAUUUGUAAUUGAAAUGGCUCUAUUUAGAAGCAACUUCUGCUGCACACUACCUGGGACACGAGUUGUCACAUGGUUGUGCAUCAUUAAUGUUUUAGGUGCAGGUUUCACACAAUCUAAGACUCGGCUCACGACACGGUCUGGGCUAUGUCACACAGCUUGGCCGCAUGGCCAUGUGACCCUUGUUUUCAAGUUUUCAAAAUUUUCUAUUUUAUUUCAAAUUGAUCAUAGAAUAUUCUCAAACUAUUUUUAAGGCCCCGUAGGUUCGGAUUAUGGCCCGUAAGUGUAUGUUUGCUAUAAUUAAGUUGUGUUAUUGAAUGUUAUUAAUUAAAUCACAUGAAUAUUUUAUUGUAAGUUAAAUGUUUUAAUUUGUACCAUAAUGCUUUGUAACCCUAAUCUGGCGAUGAAGACUAGUUUGGGGUGUUAUAAUUUUGGACUGUAAAUUUGUUUUGGGGGCUUUGUUCUUUGGUUAUUGCGAUGUUGGUUAGAUUUUGGUGUUUUAACAUUAAACUGCAAAAUUGUAUGAUUUAACAAACUAAAAAUUAGUUUUUCAAAAUUAAAACUCUUGAAAUUUCAGUUGCAAAGAUUAAGUAAUCACUUCAGUGUUUUUCCAUAAAUAAUUAAAUUUUUUUUAACAAAUGUUUUCCUUAGUUUGGGAAAUGAUUUGCCAACAUAUGUACUUUUAAAACACAUGAUUUCAAAUUCAAAUUCUCAAUUUUAAAUAAGGGUUUUCAAACUUUAGUUUUUUUUAACAGUUGUGAGAGGUUUUUGCCAAAUUUUAUGUUUUCAGAACAUAUUAGUAAGUUGAUUUUUAAUUUGUUUUUUAAACGAGUCGAUGUAAUUCCUCAAAAAUCCAUUCAUAGCGUCUUAGUCUAGAUCUAAACAUUAAUAUUCUCUUCCAAGAAAAAUCAAGAUUAUCAAAUUGUUACAACUUGGUAGGUAGACAAUCAUAUUAAAUAAGCAUAAAACUUAAUAAAUAAUUAGCGAAGAUUGAAACAAUCAAAGAAAAAAUAAAUUAAUUAACUAAGAAAUAGGAUCCAUUAUUGUUUCAAGAAAACAGAGUUUAGUUCAUAUUGAGUUGAGAAAUCCAAAAGGGAGAUUCAAAACAAACUUGUGAAAAGGGGAACAAUGUCAAUAGAUCGUAUUCAAGUUGUUCAACUCGAGAAGGAAAGAUUCAGAUCUAACCUAAAAAGAAGAAACCAAACAGAUUUAGAAAAACAAGAAAAACAAAGAAAAUAACUAAAAUGAGAAAUUUAAGAGUAAUUAAUAAAUAUUAAAACUAAUAAAGAAAUAAAGAAAUUAUAGAAUAAAUAGUGGAAGAUGGAAUGAAUAAACGAUGGAUAUGACAUAUAGAUGGAUAAGUGUCUGAUAAUUCUUGAAAAGAGUUAUUUUUCAUGCCUUUAGACCUAACUUGUAAUGCCCCAAAAAUCCCUUAUAUAUUUAUUUUCGUAAGUUUGUAACAGAAAUAUCUGUUAGCUUUAGUGGUUAUAUGCUUUGGGAGUGUUUAGGAGGUCCCAAGUUGAAACCUUAGCUUGGGCAAUUUUUUUUUGUUUUAAAUGAAUAAAACUCUAUCUUUGAUUAGUAGGCUUAUAAAUAGAUGUUGGUAAAAAAUGUCAGAAUGGUUUUACUGGUUUAGUGGUUAAGUGGGGUGUAAAUAUGCAGGAGCUCUUAUGUUCGAAUCUUUGUGCGAUCAAGAGCAUUUAUUUUAUUACUUGUGUCGUGUAGGUAUUUUGGUCCAGCCAAAAUACUGAAGAGGUUGACUAAGGGUUGGUUUCGGUUGUUGAGAGGUUUAUGGUGGGUUAGUAGAGAGGAUUUUAAGGAGAAAUUUUAGAGAUAUGAAGAGAGAGUUAGUGCCGAAUUGAAUUUCUUUUGCUUUCUCAAAUUUCAGCUGGGGUUUGAUUUUUCUUUUCAAUUUGUUUCUAUUGACUGUUUUCCAUUCUAGAGGGUCAAAUAUUGCUGAGGGUUCCUACUAGUUUCUUUUUUUUCUUUUUCUCUCUUCUCUCUUUCGACUUUGUUCUUCCCAACUGCAAAAGUGCUCUUCCCUAAACUGUUACUACCGUCUACUUUCUCUUUUCCUCCCUUGCUUUUUUUAUUGUCGAAUUUUGGGUUCUUUAUGCAUUUAAUUCUAAUGUCAAUUUAUCACUUCUCUACCAAAAGAUUAUUAUUUUCUCUCAUUGAUUUUCGUUUGGUUCAUCCUUGCUACCAGAAGUGUGGUUGCCCUUCUUUCUUGGUUUCGUUUGUCAUCAUCUGCUACAUGUUCUUUAACACUCUUUUGGUAAGUGUUCGUUUCUUCACCGCUCAGUUACUUGAAGUUAGUUUUUAAAUGGUUGUGUAUUGUUUUGAAUAAGAAUCUGAUAAAUCGUGUGUUCCAACCCUAUUUAGAUCAGUUCAUGGUGGUGUUUAUUGAUGAUAUACUGGUGUAUUCGAGAACUAAGGAUGAGCACGAUGAACACCUCAGAGUGGUUCUACAGAUUCUACGAGAAAAAGAACUGUACGCCAAGUUUAGUAAAUGUGAGUUCUAGUUAAGUGAAGUAACGUUUCUGGGACAUGUGGUUUCUACUGAGGGGAUUAGAGUUGAUCAUCGAAAGAUUGAGGCUGUCUUGGAUUGGAAGCAGCCUAAGACUGUAUAUGAGAUCUACAGUUUUCUCAGAUUGGCAGGGUAUCGACAAUUUGUGUAAAGGGUUUUCUCUAAUUGCCGUACCCUUGACUAAGCUGCUACGUAAAGGCUUACCGUUUAACUGGACUGAUUCAUAAUAAGAGAGCUUUGAGAAGCUCAAGACUGUACUGACUGAGGCCCCUGUUCUAAUAUAGCCAGAGUCUGGAAAAGAGUUUACUAUUUACACUGAUGCAUCACAUGUCUGUUUAGGAUGUGUGUUGAUGUAAGAAGGUAAGGUGGUAGUGUACACGUCUCAUCAGCUUAAGAAUCAUGAGGUGAAUUAUCUUACGCAUGACUUGGAGUUGAAGUGAUUGAGUAUAAUAACAUUUAACAUAUUAGAGCCAAUUGGUUGUCCAUAAACAUAAAAAGGUGACCUUAAUGAGAUACGCCAUAGACUCAAAAGUGUAUCAUUUACACUGAUCACAAGAGCCUCAACUACCUCCUCACUCAUAAGGAGCUGAAUCUUAGGCAACAUAGAUGGAUUGAGAUGCUUAAGGACUACGACUGUACUAUUGAAUACCACCCUGGUGAGGCUAAUGUGGUGGCUGACGCACUAAGCCGUAAAACUAUGACUGAACUGAGGGUGAUGUUUUCUCGCCUUAUUUUAUUUGAUAAUGGUAGUCUGUUGGCCAAACUUCAGGUUAAACCGAUUUGGAUAGAGUAGAUUAAGUGUAUACAAGUAGAGAAUGAGUUGUUGGGUCUUCGUUUUUGACAGGUUGAGAGUGGGAAUACCAAGGAUUUUAGACUGAAUAGUGAAGGGGUGCUCUAUAUCUGUGGGAGAAUCUAUGUAAAGACCUUCGUGAGUUAUACUAGUGGCCAGGUCUUAAAUGAGAAUUUACUAAAUUUUUGGCUAAGUGUCUGACAUGCUAGCAGGUUAAGGCUGAACAGCAGUUACCUUCGGGAUUGUUGCAGCCAGUCAAGAUUUCAGUUUGGAAGUGGGAGCAUGUAACUAUGGAUUUCAUUAGUGGGUUACCCCUCACACCCACUAAAAAGGAUUCGAUGUAGGUCAUCGUGGAUUGAUUGACCAAAUCCGCCCACUUCAUACCAAUUUGUACUGAUUACUCUCUGUAGAAGCUGGCUAAAUUGUAUGUGUCUGAAAUAGUGAGAUUACAUGGGGUACCGAUUUUAAUAAUAUCUUAUAGGGAUCCUCAUUUCACAUCUCGGUUCUGGAAGAAGCUAUAUGAAGCUUUGGGUACAAGAUUGGAGUUUAGUACUGCGUUUUAUCCUCAGACUGACGGUCAGUCAGAGAGGGUGAUUCAGAUACUAGAGGAUAUGUUGAGAAGUUGUGUGAUUGACUUUCGAGGUAGUUAGGAGGAUUACUUACCGCUAGUAGAAUUUGCAUAUAACAACAACUAUCAGUCUAGCAUUCAAAUGACACCCUAUGAGGCAUUAUAUGGUCGUAGGUGUCGCACACCUUCAUGUUAGACUGAGUUAGGCGAGCAGCGUAUUUUGGGGCCUGAACCAGUUUCUGAUACAGAGGAUAAAGUUAGACUAAUUCAGGACCAACUGAAAGCGAUAUCUAAUAGGCAUAAGUCCUACACCGAUCUAAAGAGUCGAGGGAUUGAGUAUUCUGUGGGGGACUUCAUUUUUCUCAAGGUCUCACCAUGGAAGAAGGUAUUAAGGUUUGGUCGUAAGGGCAAGUUGAGCCCUAGUUUAUUGGGCCCUAUCGCAUACUAAAACGUGUGAGAUGAGUUGCCUACCAGUUGGAGUUACCUCUAGAGUUAGAUCGGAUUUAUGACGUGUUCCAUGUCUCUAUGUUGAGGUUACCGCUCUAAUCCUACGCAUAUUAUUCCUAUUAAGGAAAUCAAGGUUAGGCUAGAUCUAACCUUUGAGGAGGAGUCAAUUCAGAUAUUGGAGUGAGAUAUAAAGGUUCUAAGAAGAAAAUUCAUCCCACUAGUUAAGGUUAUUUGGCGUAACCAUAGCACUGAGGAGGCCAUAUGGGAGUCUAAGGAUGUAAUGCUUUAGCAGUAUCCUCACCUAUUCUGAUCAGGUAAAUUUUCAAGGCCAAAAUUUUCUUUUAGGGGGUAGAGUUGUAGCGCCCCAAAAAUCCCUUAUAUAUUUAUUUUCGUAUUUUUUAUACAAAUAUCUGUCAGCUUUAGAGGCUAUGUGCUCUGGUAGUGUUUGGGAGGUCCCAAGUUCAAGCCUUAGCUUGGGCAAUUUUUUAGUUUUAAAUGAAUAAAAUCAUAUCUUUGAUCAAUAGGCUUAUAAAUAGAUGUUGGUAAAAUAUGUCAGAAUGGGCAUGCUGGUCUAGUGGUUAAGUGGGGUGCAAAUAUGCUGCAGGUCUUGUGCUUGAAUCUCUAUGUAUAGAGCAUGUUGUUAAACUGUACUACAUGCAUAUAUGAUACCAUGAUAUGACAUGACAUGAUUGUGUGGUGCAUGGCAUGGGGAUAGGUUAUUAUUGAUCGAAGGAAGUGUACUGGAAGGCUUUGAGCCUAACUUACUGGCAGCUCAGCUGCAUAUUACUGUAUAGUGUCGCCAUUGGUACUACUUAGAGUGUAGGGAUGGGUGGGUUGAUUAUAUCCCCACAUGAAGUGUAGGGUUGGUCGGAGUUGGUGUGUAGAGGUUGGCUAGGUAGGACUUGUAUACUGCAUAAUCUGUUAAUGUACUGAUUGCUAAUAUUGUAAUGGGCCAAGGCCCAAAUGCAUGAUUACUUUUGUACUAAGAUGGGCUAAAGCCCAAACCAAUACUGUCACUGAUACUGGAAAGGGCUUAGGCCGGACUGAGUUUAUUCUGUUUUCUGUCUGAUUAUUUUGUGUACUGUCUAUUUGUUUGCACUAGGAAUAUCACACUGAGUUUUGAAAACUCACCCUUUCUGUUAAUCUGUGUAGGUAAUCCCCAGUCGUAGGUAGAUCGGUGUGGCGGAGGAUUCAGCGGUGGCCACACGACUCCUUUUUAUUGUUUCGUAUCUAAUGAUAUUUAUUUUUAAGUCUUUAUUUGGGGUUUUUAUCUGUAAUAAUUGCUGCUAUGGAUUUUUUAUUUAAAUUUGGAUUUAACACUACUUCAUGUUUACAUCUGCUAGAGGUAGAUAUAGCACGGAUUUUUGAAAAGAAAUGCAUGUGUUUUAGCAAAAUACCCCAAUGUCACAAACUGUUUUAAAAAGCUUCCGCAACGUAUAAUGAUUUGCAAACUAACAAUUGAAUAAAAAUCACUAUUUUGGGAUUAACAAAAGAUAACGACGACCUCUAAUCGAAAAAUGUUUUAAGCAAAGUUACCAUUUUUCAACAUGAGCUUCGGUUUUGAAAAAUACCACCAUGUGACAUCGCCAAAUUCGCCCGUAACAUCCAGGCUGGGUUUGGGGUGUUAGAUAACUAAUUGCUUGAACUUAAGUACAUUUUGUUGCAUUUUAAGACAUUUUAGUUAGCAUUUCUAAUAUUGCAUUAGGACUUAGAUUGUGUUGGACUUAUGUGUUUUUAAUAUGGUGGAGUUUUUUUGUGUGUUGGUAUGGCAAGAACAUAUUUUAGAACGAGGAAAUAAAUGAGUGAAGUUUUGUCAGGGAAAAAGUGCAGACAGUUUGCCAGCACGGAUGCCGUGACAAUGCCAGGAAGACCAAGUAAACAUUUUUUUGCGCAACAGUCUCAAUUGAAAUUAAAACUUGUACCAGAUAAAUCUUCAAAAAAGAGGAGAAGAUAAUCACAAGUUGUUACUUGACACUAGCCUAAUCUACCUAUAAAAGCCAAUAAAGGGGAUCUCACAAAUGGCAGAAAAAAGUGGGAGGGAUCCUUAGGUGUGAAUAAGGUUUUAGUUGCGCAAAGGAAAGGAAGUCGAAGGCAGUGCUUUUUAGCCAUCACAGGAUGUUGUGCUACCGAAGUGUAAACUAGGCAAGUGAAAGUUGUUUCCCAAAGUUCUUUCGUUAUUUCCAUCAGCGUUCCUUCAAAAUAUUGAAGUAGUUGAACACAAUGUCAGAUAAUAUUUUGCUUUUGAAUUUUAUUUCUCAGCCCAUGAGCUAAAUCUCGUAGGGUUGGGAUUACUUUUGAUGAAACCUUAAACUAUUUUUAUGGAUGCAGUAUAUAUCUAAUUUACUUUACUGUUUCAUUUGAUUGUUCUUAUUUCUUAAUUAAAAUGCAAAUGAUUUCUAAACAUAGAAGACUGUUCGCAUACUUAUAAACUCAUUCUAAUUCUGAAAGGGUUGGAUUGGUUGGAUUAAAAUUAAAUGAAAUGAGCAAGUAUUCGAUGGACACUUGUAGUAGACUCUAUACAUAGAGUGACGAUCAUACAGAAGGAACCCAUGCAAGGUAUCUAAAAAGUCUUUAGACAUAGGCAAGGUAACUUGAUGUUUUCCUCUCAUGAGAGGAGAGCCAUUUUAGUACUCUUCUGUGCUUUAUAGUAGAUACGAUUUUCCCAAGGCAUUAUUGACAAUAAGGGUCAAUAUUCGGUAAUCCUGACCUUCGAAAUCCACAUCGUAUAUCCUUUAUUCUUUUCCACAUCAUUAUUAGUUAUUUAUUUGUUCAUUUACAUAAUAUUCCCAUAGUAAUUCUCAUCAUUGUCAUUACAUUUCUACUCUUGGUUUGACACAACAUUACCACUUAUUUAUUAAUUCUAUGUAUUGCUUACAUCAUUACUCUACUAAUUGCCACUGUAUAUUCAUCAUUGACUCUCCCAUAGCAUUAAUCGUAUUUUAUUAUAAUAAUUUGACCAAUUGUGUGCCUCAAUCCGAUCUUUAUGGGAACGAUACACACUCAUCACUUUAUUACGUGAUUCAACUGUAUACUUGCACAAAUCGCAUAUCAUUUCACACACGAUAGUGUUCAAUUGAACCCUUUGAGAUAUAAACCUAGACAAACUCAAUUAAUGGCUUUAAUUAACCCACCAAGAAAUAAUGAUUGGCAAAUUGAACGAUGAAGAAUGAAUUCCCAUGACUCCUUAAAAAAUUGAGAAGAAAAAUACUUCUAAAAAUCACAAGAAACAAAUCUUGGACAAAGAAACUAACUUUCAGAGUUGGAAAUUUUAGUAAUAAACAAAAACAAUUGCAUCUCUAAUGAACAUGAAGGGCCUUUACAUAGGCUAGAUAAGUACAUCCAGAUAAAAUAUUCAAGUAUCUUGAAACUUUAAUUAAUAUAAGUAAUAAGUAAUUUUAAACUAAAAUAGUCAUAAUUUUCGUCAUAAUCCCGUCCAAAAAUUCUGCUCACAUAAUCAUCAUUAAAAUAGUCAUAAUUUAAGCUCUUGAACUCAAAAUUGAGUGAAUAAAAGUGUGUUUCGAAGUUAAGUGCUAGAUCUUAGAACUUUAUGAAGACAUAUCAAUCGAAAAUUGUCCGGAUCCCAUCCAAAGAGUCACAGCAAGUUAACUAAUUUUUCAAACUUGAAAAUUGGCAACUUCGGGGAAUGGAAUUUAAUACAGUUCACCCCAUCUAUUCAUGUAUCAACUCGCAUUGGUAAAAAGUAAAAAGAAAUAAUCUAUAGAGAAAAUAGUUGAAGAAUUUAUGAAAAUUUAUUCAAAUCUCUUUUUUUUCUAGUCUUUGCAAGCUUGAAUUUUCCCUUGGUGUGUGAGAGUUGUUCCUUACCCUCUAAGUGAUUUUUUUUCUUUUUCUUUCUCUUCGAUCUCGUCACCUAAGGGUGUUCAAACAAUUGAUUCAGUUAGUACCCGUGCAAAACUAUCAUUAACUGAAAUUUUGAAACCCUUAAUCAUUAAUCAAACCAUUUUCUUUUUUGAAACCUACUAACCAGCUUGAUUGAUUUGGGUUAAUUUGAGUGGUUAACCAAAAUUUAAACAUUGUUUGUUUUUGUUCAAACAAUUUUAAAACAAAGAACAAUCCAUGACAAUUUUUCCUUGUUUUUUAUUCAAAAAAAUUAAAAGAAUUAAAAAAAUAACAUAAUAACAACACUAAAUUAAAAACAUAAUAGCAUUCAUUACAUUACAAAGCAUAUAUAUAUAUUUACUUUUUCUUGACUUUUUAGUUUAAUUUUCGUUUUAUUUUCCUAAUAUUUUUAGUUUUCAUAUUUUUGUUAAGCUUAUUAUAAGAACACUUAUAAAUCCAUUAGUUCUUAUAUAUUGGGUUUGUAUAAUGUAUUCGACCUAUCUCUAAUAUAUUGGGCCUAUAAUAUAUUUUUAUUGAUUUCGGUUAAUCAAUUCAUUCGAUUAAUUAGUCGAUUUCAAACUAAAAUAAUUGGUAAACAAAAUCUUCAAAAACCUUUAACCAACUCCAACCAAAUUAGAUUCAUUGAUCAACUUCUUAAUCAAAUUAAUUAGGUUUGAUAAAUUAAUUCGUUAAAACUGAAAAAUGCACACCCCUAUCAUCACCGUUGUUUUUAGGGAUUUUAAUCAUGUUGCUCCACCUGAUGCAGAAGUUGAGGUGGAAUGAACUACUUGCUACCAAAAUUUUUGAAUUAUAGAGCAUGCUCUACCGCAGUGAAUCAAAUUCGGUGGAGUGGAAGACUUUUCUUUACUACUUUAUGCUCUAUGCUCCAAGUCUUCUAUUCUUCUUCUGAGACCUAAAAUGGGAAAAAAAAAGAAGAAACAAGUCUAAACUAACUUUGAAAAUUAGAAAUUCUCAACAAAAUUGAAAUAAAAUAUAAUUAAUCCAUAAAAACUAUAAAAAAUACAAUAAAAACGAACCUAAAUACUAAAAUUACCUCCUAAAAAGCUAUGGAAACUAUACUAAAAUAAUUCUAAAUAUGAUAGUUAUCAAAAAUGACAUGAGGAAGCCAAUCGAGUAGAUGCUUUCAACUAUUGCAAAUACCAUUAGUCGAUUAGCCAUCAUCUUGAGAACAUCAUAGAGUUGAAAGAAAAAAUCAUACAACUCCAUAAAGAAGAAAAAAUCAUUUUUGAAAAAGAAUUGGCAUUAUCAAACUUGACAUCAAUGCUUUGGUUUCUCAAUACAAUAUUAUGGACAAAUUCAUCAAAUUUGGCUCUUUCAAUCCUAUUACACUAGCUCUAAGUAGAAGUAAGAUGGUGAGUUUCGAAGGGAUUGAGGGCAAUCAUCUAUUUUUGGAAUAUCAGAAUGGUCAUGAUUGGACUCUAGCCACAUGUCAAAGAAGCCAAUGAAAAGCAUCUCUCCUAGGUAUAAGCUUAUAUUAUCACAUUGCUCCUAAGCAUGAGCAUAAAUCGUUCAUCCAGAAUGAUGAUGAUCCUAAGCAUAAGCUUAAACUAUUCAUCUAAUGCUCCUAAGAUGGAGCUUAAUCUAUUCAACCUAAACGAUCAUGCUUUAAGCACAAUCUUAAACUAUUCACAAAAAAUAAAUGAUGAUCCAAUGAAGCAUGAGCUUAAACUAUUCAUACAAAAUAAGCGAUGACCUUCUAAGCAUGAAUUUAAAUUGUUCAUACAUAAUAAAUGAUGAUAUUACUAAGAACAAGCUUAAACUGUAGUCUAAAAAAUAUUGAACUAUAUUAUAACUUGAUCUUUUAAAAAUGAAGGUACGUAGAUAGCUUGGUUUCAUUGCCAAGUUCAGUCUAAUUAAAUAUGUUUAUGGUGUGUUUAGAGAAUUAAAUGAUUAUAUGAUUAUUUUCCAGGUAUUCGAGGUUGUUUCAUUUGGUUUAAUGGGUAAAUAAAGCUUUAAGGGGUAUGUGAUUACAUGAAAUGAACUAUCAUAUUUGAGUAAUGAUAUGGAUGAUGAUGAAAUGUUUAAUUGAAAAGGAAAUAUGGUUUAGUAUAUAUGUAUGAGUGGUGAAUUAUGAAAGUGAAAUGUAGAUAUGUUUUAUACCAUGUUUUGAUUCGAAUUAUAUAUGAUAUUUAAACCAACUAACCUUGUGAGGUGGUGUGUAUAGGAAAGGAAAGUUGGCUUAAAACAUAAUGAAAUUAUGCUUGGUUUUUUAACUUAAAAUAUUCAAUAAGUUAAGUUUCCUUUAUAUGAACUUACUAAACAUUAGUUGCUUACAUAGUUAUUUUUCUUUAUUUUGUAGUUCAUCAGAAGCUCGACCGAUUGGAAUCAUGUUAGAGCAUGAUCACACUAUCCAUUCAACAUUUUAAUAGUUCUUCGUUAUUUUGGUAAAUAGUUGUAAAUGACAUGUAAUGGGGUUUAACGGUCAUUCCAGUAAUUUGACUUGUUUUGAGUUGUGUCAAGCUUAUUGUGAUUAAUGUUGUUAGUUGCUGGCAUGUAAAUAAUGGUGUAAAUAUGUGUGAUCGGACCCUUAUGCAUGCUUUAUUGAUUAAAGAUAUCAUAUGUUAAAAUGGCAUGUUUUUGGAAUGGUUAUUUGGCAUGAUUGGUAUUUAUGAUCUUGAGAUGUUGAAUUGAAUUAAGUUUGAUAUGUAUAUUGUGAUACCUUCAUUGACAUAUUGGUUAGAUAUUAAAGGAUGGUUGAUUUGGUAUGUUUUUGAAAUGGUUGUUGGUAUGUUUUCUCUAAGUUAAUUAAAUGAAUUUGUAAUGUUGAAUGGUAUAAUAUUUGUUGGUACAUUAGUUAGUCUUAUAGGUUGAUGGAAUUGGUAUGUUUUAAAUGUGUUUUGGUUAUUUCAAUGUUUGUGGAAAUGGUGUGUCUUGGUGUACAAGAUUUGAAAUUGAAACGGCUUGAUUUAGAAGCAACUUAUGCUACACACCGCCUGGGACAUGGAUUGUCACAUGGCUGUGUCAUUAUUAUUUUAGGUAUAGGUUUCACACAAUCUAAGACUCAGCUCACGACACAGCUGUGUAUCACAAGUCAGUAUGUAACACGGUUUUGUACAUGGCCUGCGACACGAUCGUGUGUCCAGACUUCGAAUGUCCACAUGGUCUAGGCUAUGUCACAUGGCUUGGCCACAUGGCCGUGUGACUUUUGUUUUCAAGUUUUCCAAAAUUUUCUAUUUUAUUUCAAAUUGAUCCUAGAAUAUUCUCAAACUAUUUUUAAGGCCCCGUAGGUUCGGAUUAAGGCCCGUAAGUGUAUGUUUGCUAUAAUUAAGUUGUGUUAUUGAAUGUUAUUAAUUCAAACACAUGAAUACUUUGUUGUAAGUUAAAUGUUUUAAUUUGUACUAUAAUGCUUCGUAACCCUAAUCUGGCGAUGGAAACAAGUUUGGCGUGUUACAAUUUUGUAUUGUAAAUUUGUUUUGGGGCUUUGUUCUUUGGUUCUUGUGAUGUUGGUUGGAUUUUGGUGUUUUAACAUUAAACUGCAAAAUUGUAGGAUUUAACAAACUAAAAUUAGGUUUUCAAAAUUAAAACUCUGGAAAUUUUUGUUGCAAAGUUUAAGUAAUCACUUAAGUGUUUUUCUAUAGAUAAUUAAAUGGUUUUUAACAAAUGUUUUCCUUACUUUUGGAAAUGAUCUGCCAACAUUAGUACUUCUAAAACACAUGAUUUCAAAUUCAAAUUCUCAGUUUUAAAUAAGGGUUUUCACACUUCGAUUUUUUUUAAACAUUUUUGAGAGGUUUUUGCCAAAUUUUAUGUUUUCAGAACGUGUAACCAAGUUGAUUUUUAAUUAGUUUUUCAAAGUAGUCGAUGUAAUUCCUCAAAAAUCCAGUCAUAGCGUCUAGGCCGGGUUUGGGAUAUUAUACUGACGUUACUAAAGUUAAUCUUCAUCUAUUUAGUCUUGAUCUAAACAUUAAUAUUCUCUUCAAAAAAAAUCAAGAUUAUCAAAUUGUUAAAACUUGGUAGGCAGACAAUCAUAUUAAAUAAGCAUAAAACUUAAUAAAUAAUUACCGAAGAUUGAAAUAAUCAAAGAAAAAAUAAAUUAAUUAACUAAGAAAUAGGAUCCAUUAUUGUUUCAAGAAAAUAGAGUUUAGUUCACAUUGAGUUGAGAAAACCAAAAGGGAGAUUCAAAACAAACUUGUGAUAAGGGGAAUAAUGUCAAUAGAUCAUAUUCAAGUUGUUCGGCUUGAGAAAGAAAGAUUCAGAUCUAACUUGAAAACAAGAAACCAAAAAGAUUUAGAAAAACAAGAAAAAACAAAGAAAAUAACUAAAAUGAUAAAUUUAAGAAUAAAUAAUCAAUAUUAAAAAUAAUAAAGAAAUAAAGAAAUUAUAGAAUAAAUAGUGGAAGAUGGAAUGAAUAAACGAUGGAUAUGACAUAUAGAUGGAUAAGUGUCUUAUAAUUCAUGAAAAGAGUUAUAUUUCAUGCCUUUAGACCUAACUAAUUGUUUGUACUUAAGUACAUUUUGUUGCAUUUUAAGACAUUUUAGUUAGCAUUUCUAAUAUUGCAUUAGGACUUAGAUUGUGUUGGAAUUAUGUGUUUUUAAUAUGGUGGAGUUCUUUUGUGUGUUGGUAUGGCAAGAACAUAUUUUAGAACGAGGAAAUAAAUGAGUGAAGUUUUUUCAAGGAAAAAGUGCAGACAGUUUGCCAGAACAGAUGCCGUGACAAUGCCAGGAAGACAAAGUUAACAUUUCUUUGCGCAACAGUCUCAGUUGAAAUUAAAACUUGUACCAGAUAAAUCUCCCUAAAAGAGGAGAAGAUAAUCACAAGUUGUUACUUGACACUAGCCUAAUCUAUCUAUAAAAGCCAAUAAAGGGGAUCUCGCAAAUGGCAGAAAAAAAUGGGAGGGAUCCUUAGGUGUGAAUAAGGUUUUAGCUGCGCAAAGGAAAGGAAGUCGAAGGAAGUGCUUUUUAGCCAUCACAGGAUGUUGUGCUACCGAAGUGUGGACUAGGCAAGUGAAAGUUGUUUCCCAAAGUUCUUUCGUUAUUUCCAUCAGCGUUCCUUCAAAAUAUUGAAGUAGUUGAACACAAUGUCGGAUAAUAUUUUGCUUUUGAAUUUUAUUUCUCAGCCCAUGAGCUAAAUCUCGUAGGGUUGGGAUUACUUUUGAUGAAACCUUAAACUAUUUUUGUGGAUGCAGUAUAUAUCUAAUUUACUUUACUGUUUCAUUUGGUUGUUCUUAUUUCUUAAUUAAAAUGCAAAUGAUUUCUAAACAUAGAAGACUGUUCGCAUACUUAUAAACUCAUUCUAAUUCUGAAAGGGUUGGAUUGGUUGGAUUAAAAUUAAAUGAAAUGAGCAAGUAUUCGAUGGACACUUGUAGUAGACUCUAUACAUAGAGUGACGAUCAUACAGAAGGAACCCAUGCAAGGUAUCUAAAAAGUCUUUAGACACAGGCAAGGUAACUUGAUGUUUUGCUCUCACGAGAGUCAGGCCAUUUUAGUACUCUUUUGUGCUUUAAAGUAGAUACGAUUUUGCCAAGGCAUUAUUGACAGUAAGGGUCGAUUUUGGGUAAUCAACUUUCCAAAUCCACAUCGUAUAUCCUUUAUACCUUACCAUAGUAUAUUUGCCACAUCAUUAUUAGUUAUUUAUUUGUUCAUUUACAUAAUAUUCCCAUAGUAAUUCUCAUAAUUAUCAUUAGAUUUCUACUCUCAGUUUGCCACAACAUUACCAAUUAUUUAUUACCUCCACGUAUUGCUUACACCAUUACUCUACUAAUUUCAACUAUAUAUUUAUCAUUGAGUUUGCCAUGGCAUUAAUCGUAUUUUAUUAUAAUAACUUGACCAAUUGUGUGCCUCAAUCUGAUCCCCAUGGGAACGAUACUCACUCAUCACUUUAUUACGUGAUUCAACUGUAUACUUGCACAAAUCGCAUAUCAUUUCACACACGACAGUGUUCAAUUGAAACCUUUAAGAUAUAAACUCGGACAAACUCAAUUAAUGGCUUUAAUCAACCCACCAAGAAAUAAUGAUUGGCAAAUUGAACGAUGAAGAAUGAAUUCCCAUGACUCCUUAAAAAAUUGAGAAGAAAAAUACUUCUAAAAAUCACAAGAAACAAAUCUUGCACAAAGAAACUAACUUUUAGAGUUGGAAAUUUUAGUAAUAAACAAAAACAAUUGCAUCUCUAAUGAACAUGAAGGGCCUUUACAUAGGCUAGAUAAGUACAUCCAGAUAAAAUAUUCAAGUAUCAAGUACAUCCAGAUAAAAUAUUCAAGUAUCUUGAAACUUUAAUUAGUAUAAGUAAGAAGUAAUUUUAAACUAAAAUAGUUAUAAUUUCCGUCAUAAUCCCAUCCAAAAAUUCUGCUCACAUAAUCAUCAUUAAAAUAGUCAUAAUUUGAGCUCUUGAACUCAAAAUUGAGUGAAUAAAAGUGUGUUUCGAAGUUAAGUGCUAGAUCUUAGAACUUUAUGAAGACAUAUCAAUCGAAAAAUGUCUGGAUCCCAUCCAAAAAGUCACCACAAGUUAACUAAUUUUUCAAACUUGAAAAUUGGCAGCUUUGGUGAAUGGAAUUUAAUAAAGUUCACCCCAUCUAUUCAUGUAUCAACUCGCAUUGGUAAAAAGUAAAAAGAAAUAAUCUAUAGAGAAAAUAGUUGAAGAAUUUAUGAAAAUUUAUUCAAAUCUCUUUUUUUUCUAGUCUUUGCAAGCUUGAAGUUUCCCUUGGUGUGUGAGAGUUGUUCCUUACCCUCUAAGUGAUUUUUUUUCUUCUUCUUUCUCUUCGAUCUCGUCACCUAAGGGUGUUCAAACAAUUGAUUCAGUUAAUACCCGUACAAAACUAUCAUUAACUGAAAUUUUGAAACCCUUAAUCAUUAAUCAAACCAAUUUUUUUGAAACCUACUAACUAGCUUCAUUGUUUUCGGUUAAUUUGAGCGGUUAACCAAAAUUUACACAUUGUUUGUUUUUUUUCAAACAAUUUUAAAACAAAGAACAAUCCACGACAAUUUUUCCUUGUUUUUUAUUCAAAAAAAUUAAAAGAAUUAAAAAAAACAUAAUAACAACACUAAAUUAAAAACAUAAUAGCAUUCAUUAUAUAUAUAUUUACUUUUUCUUGACUUUUUAGUUUAAUUUUAGUUUUUUUUUUCCAAAUAUUUUUAGUUUUCAUAUUUUUGUUAAGCUUAUUAUAAGAAAACUUAUAAAUCCAUUAGUUUUUAUAUAUUGGGUUUGUAUAAUGCAUUGGACCUAUCUCACAUAGUCAUCAUUAAAAUAGUCAUAAUUUGAUCUCUUGAACUCAAAAUCGAGUGAAUAAAAGUGAGUUUCUAAGUUAAGUGAUAGAUCUUAGAACUCUAUGAAGACAUAUCAAUUGAAAAAUGUCUGAACUCCAUCCAAAAAUUCACGCAAGUUAACUAAUUUUUCAAACUUGAAAAUUGGUAGCUUCGGUGAAUGGAAUUUAGUAAAGUUCACCCCAUAUAUUGAUGUAUCAACUUUCAUUGUAAAAAGUAAAAAGAAAUAAUCUAUAGUGGUUAGUGUUUUAAUGGGGGUUUUGUGUUUACUCUCGGUUAGGGGAAGGGCAAGAAGAGUUGGUACUCCUGCAGCAAUUUGAGCGUUAAGGGUGUCUGUUCGUCGGCGGUAAGGUUUCAAAUUCUUUGUUGGUUAUUGUAAGGCUCCGUUUGUGGAAUGGUUUUGGAUUGAGUUUCGUAAGUGUACUGAAUUUGGGCUUCUGGAUGCUAUUUCUUAGGUUCGAUGGUCUCGGGGGUGCUUGUGCAUCAAAACGAUAUCAGGUGUGUACCCGAAAUGCAGAAAAUCGAGCUUCGAUGAAAUCUAAAACACCUUACUAUCGACACCACAAGGGCAUGUGCCUGGCCGUGUGGUUGGCUGUGUGUAGGACACGGUCAUGUGUUUGACGAGGGUAGGGUCGUGAGGAAGACAUGGCCGUGUGACGAUGUGGGCCCGCAGGCUAGGCCAAGUUAGGCUUGUGGGUUUUGGGCCACAUGUGCAUGUGGGUUUUGGGCCAAGCCAUGUGAACCACAUGGACAGGGCUAAUCUGGGUGUGUUGACCACAUGGGCAUGUGGGCCCGAAAUUCUAAAAUUUUUCGUAGGGUCUCACAGGUCAUUUUGGUCGACUUUGUGCCUACCGUAGGGUCAGUAAGGGCUAACCAAACCCUAAAACUAUGUGAUCUGUUAGUUUGAUAUUUGUUCUAAAUAUGAUACUACUAUGCAUGUCUGAUUAGUCUGGUGUAUAUAUAUAUAUCUGAUAUAUAUGUAUGAGCAUGUGAGCAUGAUAACUCUGAUUAUAUAUAUCUGAUUGAGGUGGGAUUUCUAUAUGUGGAGGAAGUGUUCUAUAUGGCGGUCAUCGCCUAUGUUCUGGCAGCUUGGCUAUACAUUAUCUGACAUGUAUCGUAAUGGCACGAUAUGGUGUGUAGGGAUUGGUGGGUGUUUUUAACCCCACAUGAUGUGAUGGGAUGGUCAGAGUUGGUUUGUAGAGGAUGGAGUUAGGAUUCUGUAUUUCUAAUAUGCAUAUAUGUUCUAUUAUUUGAAUCUAUAAAGGACUUAGGUCUGAAUCUGAAUCUGAAAUUGUAUCUGAUCGUGUAUGAGUUUAUUGCACGUAUUGCAUGUAUUUUUCUGUUGGGUUACACACUGAGUUUACGAAAACUCACAUUUGUUUGUCGGUUUUGUUUAGGUAAUCCACAGACUUAGACGGGUCAGUGUUACGGAGGCUCAGUGGUGACCACUUGAUUGAGAACUAUUUUACUUAGUAAAUUAUGUUUUAUUUAUAAUUUCGAUUUCAUUUGAGAGUUUGUAAUUUUUGGGACUCUCCGGACUGCUGGUUUUUAUUUUGGUUUUGGAUGCGAUUUUAGACUCUUUUGUUGCGAUGCAUAAUGGAAAACACGGUUUUAUGAAAACAAAGGUUAUUCUGAAAAUACGAACUGGAUUUCUAAAAUAUAACGGUUCAAAAACUUCUGCUAAAAAUCAUGUUUUGGUAAAUAAAUGAAUUAAGUAACACUUUCAAAAAUGGUUAUAAAGAAAUAUGAACUAUGAAUCUUUAAUGAUUUGACAAAAAGACCUUAUUUUCAAAACCAUACAUUGUGACCACUCCAGAUUCAGCUAUAACGUCUAGACCGAUUUGGGGUGUUACAGUAAGGAUGAAAAUUUAAGGGGGAGUGAGCUAUGGCGCUUAGUAUGAGUUCAUUCACAAUAAAUUCAAUGCAAACGGUUGGUAGGACACAUUAAAUAAUAUCACAUAAAAUAAUCACAGUCAGAUAAUAGUUUAGAAUGUCGGUUUUACAAUUUAACCACCAAUAUUAUCACAGUAUUCACAGUUGUAAUUUCAGAAUAUCAAAUUUUCACACCAUUCACAAUAUUUAGAUAUAUAUAAAUAUAUCAUAACAGAAUUCCAGAUUUGUAUGCACAUGAUUUAGAAGAUGCCAUACAAUUUCGGGUUUUAACAGAAUAAAUCCUACCCCACGUUACAUACCAUAAUGGGAGUUCCCCUAAACUCCCUUCUCCAACACACUGGGUACCACUACUGGUUUACAAAUAAUAACUAUCAUUUGGCUGUGGACACACAGCAAUCCCCCACAAUUGGAUUCUAGAUUUGGUUGUGGGUUCACAGCAAAAAAAUCUACAAAUGAAGCAUGCUUUUGCCUGUAGAUUAUACAACAUAUACCCAUAGUUGGAAUCUGCCUUCGGCUGUGGACACACUGUAACACCUCAAACCUGACCUGGACGUUAUGGCCGAAUCUUGAGGAAUUACUUUAACUCGCUAGAAAACCCAAGAGUUUACUUUGAAAUCAUGUGGUUAAACUAGUGUUCACUUUGAUAAAUCGUUUUCCAGUUUUAGGGAAAAUUAUUAUUAAAACUACUACUUUAUUACAAUAAAAAAUUAAAGUGAUUGUAUCAUUUUGUAACGGAAUCUACUGAGCUAUAAGGUUUUGAAAAUCGUGGUUUAAUUUGCAACAAAUCAUUUUGCAAAUAGAAAUUUAAUACUACUUAAUUUGGAAAAGCAUGCUAAAACGAAAGCAAAGUCCAAACUAAUUUACGAUUUAAAUUCUUAAAAGUCCAAAUUAAACAUAAAGUCAAUUUAAACCAGUUUAUCGAAAGUGUAACACCCCAAACCCGGCCUAGACAUUAUGGCCAAAUCUGGAUGUGUUACAAAAAAAAAGUUUAUAAAACGACUUCCUUGUUAUUGGCAAAUCAUCGCAACCAUUAUUACAUAGUAUGUCUGAUUUGUUUGGAGAACUUUUUGAUAUACUUAUUUGAUUUAAGAUCGUUGCUUGCUUAUGCCUUUCUAUUAAACCGAAUGUUUUGCAGUGGAGUUUCUUUAAAAUGUCAUAUUUUGGCAAAUCAAAUUGUUUCUUGAAAAUCGUUAUUUCAGAAAAGUUGUCAUUUUCAGGAAAACUAUUUUAUCGGUUGUUACGCUUAGAAAACCAAAAUAAAAUCCAAAACCAAAAAUAGUCCCAAAAAGUCCAAAGAGUCCCGAAAUUACAAAACUCUCAAAACCAGAAAAGUUUGAACUAAUUUUAAAAGAAUGAAAAUUUAUAGAAAUAUGGUCAACAUUGAGCUUCCGUCACACCGACCCACAUAAAUGUAAGGGUUACUUGAACAGAACAAACAAAUAGAGAGUGAGUUUUGAAACUCAGUGCGUAACGCGAAUAUAAACAAAAAUUUAGAAUCAAUCUAAUGCAUAACAGAUACAAAUGUAAACCUUUUAUAGAAUAAGAAUUAUACAGAUACAAAUGUGCAAAAUCCUACCCUCGUCCUCUACACACCAAUUCUGACCAGCCCAUCACACCACGUGGGGUAUAAAACACCCACCUAGCCAUACACACGGUAUAGUGUUUAUACGACACUUUUCAGAAUAAUCGCAGUAGAGUUGCCAGUAUAUAGGUGAGAUAUUUCCUCACACAGAACACUUCCUCCUCAUAAUACAAAUCCCGCUCCAUAGCCAGAUACAGACAGAAUAUUAGGUAAAACAAAUUAACAGAUACCAGAGUUAACAUAUCAUGCAUGAGCGUAUAACAAAUAUUACACAUGCUUGUACAUAACAGAACAAACCAUACAUACCGUAUUCCAUAAUACUCAUAUAAAUGUUAUUUUUUAAAUUGUAACAAAUAUUAUUAUUAAGAUGUUUUUCUUUUUAUAUUUUUAUAAAAAUAUAUUAAAAAACAAUUAGAAUAAUUUUAAGAGAAAAAACACUCAUAAAUAGUAGAAUUUAAUCUAAAAAUAUCAAAGUUUUAAAGCCUCAACUUUAACAUUUCAACCAAAAUUCCAUUAGUAUAUAAAUAUUUCAUAAAUAUAGAUUUUAUAUAAAAAAUUUAUGUUAACUUUUUUUUAACCCGCAUCACAAGUAUACCAUAUUUAGAGAUAUUCAUAGCUAGGCAGCCCACUUUGGGUCAAGCUUGAGCUUAGGUUUUAUCUCAAGUUGGCCCAAUUUAACCUAUUUUACUAUUUAAAAAUAUAAAUAUAUGUUAUAUUGAUAUUUAUAUAUUUCUAUAAUUAAAUUUUAAAUAAAUUUAUUGUUAACUUCUAAACAUAAAACAAAGAGAACUUUCACCCAAGUUAUAAGUUUGUGGUUAGACAGCCGACUUUCGGGGCAGGAUUCAGCUUACGUUUUUAAUCUUGGGAUUUAACAAUAAUAAAAAAUUUAAAAAUAAUAUUCUAUUAAUAUUUAUAAAUUUUAUAAAUUUAAAUUUAAUUAUAUUUUUUAAACAGUAAAAUGAACCAUUUAUAUGGGCUAAUUAGAGUUAAGUUUGGUUUGAAUCAAGGCUUAACUUUGACCAAAUCCAACUAAAAACACCUCUAACAAUUAUCUAGUAUUGUUUUUAUGAAUUGAAUUUUAACUUCUAAUUUUCAAUUUUAUUACAAAAUUUCUUUGCGGACGAUAAGAAAAUAACAUAUUUGUAACUUCUUCACUCCGACGUAAAGGUUAAGUCUGAAUUUGGAUUACAUCGGCCAUAAAUAUGGCCUAGCAGGAUUAUCGGAGUUUUUAAAAAUAGACAUCUUUAAAACGUUUGUUUAAUUUAUAAAAAAGCUUAUUUAAUUUCCAAAUUAUUUAUUACUUGAAAUCUUAAUUACAUUUUAAAAGCAGGAAGUGGUAACUAUUUAUUUUUAAUAAAAAUCGGGGUUCAUGUAUAAUUCAUUAAUAACCGUAAUUCGAAAACAUUAAAACUUAAAUUAAAUGUCAUGCAAAACAAAACAAACUUAAAUCUAAAUCUCAUGCCACAGUGCAAAACAAUUUAUUGUAGUCUUAGAAAAUAAAAAAAAAUCAUAUAAUGAACCUAAAAUAAUUUUUUUUACUUUAAUAAUGUGUCAAGACCUUACAAAUGUCACGCCCACGUUCAAUCCUGGUGGGUUAUCUAUAAGGAUGAAAAUUUAAGGGGGGUGAGCUUUGACGCUUAGUGUGAGUUCAUUCACAAUAAAUUCAAUGCAAACGGUUGGUAAGACACAUUAAAUAAUAUUGCAUAAAAUAAUCACAGUCACAUAACAGUUCAGAAUGUCGAUAUUACAGUUUAACUACCAAUAUUAUCACAAUAUUCAUAGUUGUAAUUUCAGAAUAUCAAAUUUCCACAUCAUUCACAAUAUUAACAUAUAUAUAAAUAUAUCAUAAUAGAAUUCUAGAUUUGUAUGCACAUGAUUUAGAAGAUGCCAUACAAUUUUGGGUUUUAACAGAAUAAACCCUACCCCACGUUACAUAUCAUAAUGGGAGUUCGCCUAAAAUCCCUUCUCCAACACACUAGGUUGUGGAUAAACCAAUACUCAUCCGCAGAUAAUAACUAUCAUUUGGCUGUGGACACACAGCAAAUCCCCACAGUUGGAUUCUAGGUUUGGCUAUGGGUUCACAGCAAAAAGUCCUGCAAAUGAAGCCUAUUUUUGCAUGUAGAUUAUACAACCUAUACCUGCAGUUGGAAUCUGCCUUUGGCUAUGGAUGCACUAUAACGCCCCAAACCUGACCUGGACGUUAUGGCUGAAUCUUGAUGUAACGCCCUAAAAUUUCUAAUUCUAUUAUUGUAAAAAUAUGACACAAAAUAUUUGUCUGCUUUAGUGGUUAUGUGUUCUGGGAGUGUUUGGGAGGUCCCAAGUUCACGUCUUUGCUUGGGCAAAUUUUGGUAUUUUGAAUGAAUUAGGCUUUACUCUUGUUCAGUAGGAUUUUAUUUGAUUGUUGGGAAAAUUAUAUCAGAAUGGGCUUGCUGGUCUAGUGGUUAAAUUGUGUGUUAUUAUGGUGAAGGUCUUGUGUUCAAAUCCUUAUGUAGGCAAAGGUAUUAUUAUUAUUAUUUUUGCUCAGAUUUCGGGAUAUAGUUGUGUAAUAGGGGGAUUCUGAGUAGUGGAUGUGUAGUGGGAAUUAGGGGAGAAGAUUAAGGGGUUUCGGGAUUUUAUUUUAUUUUUUCCCAGAACGGAAUUUUGACUCUCUUUUCCAAAAAAAUUCUGUCGUCUAUUCUUCUCCCUCUCCUCUUGUCGAUAUUCUCUAAGUUUUUUCAUCUUUCUCUUCUUUUUCUUCUUCUUGAUUUUUCCCUAAUCCAUUUAUUUUUCCUUCAUUUUCGCACGCGAUUAGUGCUCGCUUAGUUUCGGUAAGCGUUUCUCUUUGUUUUUAUCAUGAAUCUCCUAGGGACUAAAGUGGUAAUUUUUUUCUCUGCGAUUUGGGCAUAAGGGAAGGCUCGGACUGGUGAAUUCAGUAUUCUCAUCUUAUCAAUAGUUAAAUGGGGGGUUAUCGUUGGUGGUAUGUUGGGUUUCUGUUCGUUCUUGGUUGUCAAUUCGCUUGUAAAUCCAUUAAAUUGAUGUUUAGUAUCUUGAUUAUAGGCUUUGGAGUGCUUGGGGACUGUUUUAGCAUCAAACAAAACCAGGUGUGUACCCGAAACGCAAAAAAAAAGGGAUUCGGUGAAAAGUUAAAAUUGCUUGCUAUUUGGACAGCAGCAGUAGACUAAUUUUGAAAAAUCACCAUAAAUUGUGGAAAUCGAAUUAGAGGAUGAAAAAAAUAUGAAAUUAAAUCUUAUUGAGUCUAGUUUCUCAUAGAAGAAACGGUGUAAGUAAUGGAAUUGUAAAUCGUGAGAUAUAAUAAACUUUGUGAGACAAGGUUAGAAUAAAUUCGGGUUCCCCUGUUCUGAUUUUGGAAAAUCAUCAAAAAUUGGAGAAAAGUAAUUAGGAAUUAAAAUUUACAUGUUUAAAUUAUUAAUGAGUCUUUUUUUUCAAUAGAAACAAAUGGGAACUUCAUCCAAAUUUUGUACUAAAAGAUAAUUAAUUUUUAGCAAAGAAGGGUCAAAGCUGUCAGACAGCAGAACAAGGGUAAGUUUGAAGAUUUUACUGUACUUAUUAGCUGAACCAAAAAUUCUAAAAAUUUUAUGGUAGAAAGGUAUUUGAGUCUAUUUUUAAAGACAUCAAGCGAAUUUUAAUUAGAAAUUCUGUAGCACAAGAUAUAAAUAAUUUAGUAACAGUGACUCAAGUAGAAAGCUUUGAAGGAACACAUAAGUAAAUUGUGAUAACAUAUAUGAAUAUUUAGCUAACACAGGUUACACUGAAAAUGGAUCACGUGGCCAAGGCCAAUUUGGGCCGAGUGGGCCACGUGGGCGUGUGAGCCCAUUUUUUUGAAAAAUUCUGUAAGGUUGCACGGGUCACCCAAGUCGACUAUGGACCUACUGUAGGGUCAGUAACCUUUACUUAGACGCCUAUAUGUGUGAUCUGUCUAGCUGAUUUCUAUAACGAGCAUGACUUAUAAUAUCUAAAUGUAUGUACUAUUAAUUGCAUAAUGGCAUGGCAUAUUUUGUAUGUUGCAUUGCAUCGGGGUGGGUUGAUGAUAUUUGGAGGAAGUGUCUAAAGGGAUAUUAAGCCAGUUAUCUGGCAGCUCAGCUGCAACCUUCUGAUUAUGUGUCGAUUUCAGUAUAGCAUGGUGUGUAAGGAUGGGUGGGUUAAUUUAAUCCCUACAUGGUGUGUAGGGUUGGACGGAGAUGGUGUAUAGAGGCUGGUGGGUAGGAUUCUAAUUUACUAUAUCUACAUUCUGAAUCUGAUAUGGGCCAAGGCCCUAAUGUAUUUCUGAGACUGUAUCUGAACGGGCUAAGGCCCAAACUGAUUGUGUGAUGGGCCUAGGACGCAGACUGUAUCUAACUGAAUUCUGUUGAUUAUUUGUAUGCAUGUUUUCUAUGGGGAUUACACACUGAGUUUGAGAAAACUCACCCUUUCUCUGUUUAAUCUAUACAGGUAAUCCCCAAACUUGAUGGGUAGGUGCAGCGGAGGAUUCGACGGUGGCCACACGUAAAUUUCAGACUGUUUUCUGUUAAUGCCUAGAAUUUAUUAAUUAUUUGGGGUUUUUGAUGUAUCUUCUGGACUAUGGACUAGUAGGCUUUAAAUUUUAGACUUUAUACUAUUUUUUAUGUUUUUUUUAAAACUGCAACUCCACAAAACACGGUUUUUUUCUAAAAAAUAAGGAUUUUCGUAAAUAGAAAUGAUUUUCCCUAAAUUAAUUGGUUACAAAAGUUUUCUCUAAGAGACAAGUUUUAAAGCAAAUCAACUAGUUUUUUUUCAUAAUUAAAUAAAAGUUAACUUACUAUAACGAUUUUUCUUAAACUCGACAAUCUUGUCUUCAAAUCCCUUUUCAUGUGACAUCACCAGAUUCGGCCAUAACGUCUAGGCCGGGUUUGGGGUGUUACACCUGAUGAGUUACUUUAAAUCGCUUGAAAACCUAGAAAUUUACUUUGAAAUCAUAUGGUUAAACUAGUGUUCACUUUGAUAAAUCGUGAAAGUAUGUGAUUAUUGAGGACAUGCUGAGCAUGUCAAAUGAAUGUGAAAAGUAUUGUGAUAUGACUAUGUAUGAGAUUGUGUAACAUAUUGCAUAUGCAUUGGGUUGGGAUUUUUUGGUUGACGGAGUAGUUCUGUGGAGUACCGUCGGCAUAUUAAGCCCGCAUUAUUCGUAGUUAGUGCACUGCACCUGGAGUACUGAGGGGAUUGGUAAUUUUAUCGCAUAUUAUAUGUUAUUGGUGAUUGUAUAGCACUAUUUGAUAUCCGACAGAUUUUUUGCAUUAUUGAUUAUUCGGUGGUUUUACCACAUUGAGCUAUGCUCAGAAUGUUUUAGAGUUUGGUAGACGGGUUCUAGGGAACACGUGGUGUGUAGCGGAUGGUAUGGGUAGGAACCUUUUUGCAUUGCAUCAUGUGCACGACAUAUUCGAAUGUUAUUGGUUUAUGCUACGUAUUGUAUUUUUUUGUAUUGAAUGGUAUCAAAAUUAAUGAUUGUCACUCGAAUGAAUUAUGAACUAUGCUCAUACACUGUUUGACAUCAAUUUAAUAAUGGCUAUGUAACGAUAUGAAAUUCCUAUAAUGGUUUUAUUUUCUUCUAUUAAAGCUAAUAUGUUUCACUGUAUUUGAUAUUUAUGUUUGUUUAAAUAAUUGUUCGACUCACACUGAGCUUUUCAUAAGCUCACCCCUAAUAGUGUUAAACUUUUCACGUAAACCUCGAAAUUAAGACCAGACUUGGCAUUCGAAGAAUCACCUUGGACCUUGAAUUAUUUUUCUAAUAAGUAUUAAUCAAUCUCUAAUGGUUUUGGUUUGUAAUUUUUAAUUAUAUCUAGUCUGUGGCUUGAUAACUUUUCUUUUGGGAUUUUUGCAUGCAUGGAUUACUCAAGCAUAAUAACCGGAUAAUGCAUGAUAUCAGGCUUAAGUAAAAUUUGAUAUUGUUCCCUAGAUUCUGCUACAUUGCAAAGGAUUUGUUUUUGAAAAACAAAUUGAUAAGGUAACUAAGUUUUUAAAAUGACUUGAAAAAUGGUUUUUCCCCUAGAUUAGUUUAACAUCAAAUUUUUUUUAAAGGAGAGCAACAAGCAAAUGGUUUUUCUAAAACAACACUAUCAACAAUAAAAUGAAUUCUAAGUAUACACAACCUAAUGAAUGAAUGCUUUUAAGCUAACUUAAAGUACAAUUAUGGUUUUCUCUAAAAUGAGUUUAUUUAAGGUUUUCAUAAGUAAUGUAAGUUAGCUUAGCCAUUUCGGUGGCUAAUGUAGCCUUCUCAUUCUAGCCAUAACGUCUAGGCCAGGUUUGGGAGGUUACAGUAUUGAUAGGAACUGUGGUAUAAAUUUUAUUUUGGACAUUCUUAAAGUGUUAUUUGGACUAAACUUUAGAAACUAUGGAUUUUAUACUGAGCCUAAAUUUACGAAGUUCAUGCGUGGUUUUUACGAAAAUGAAACUAAUAUGAAUUUUUAAAACCAUGAUUUUUUUUAAAGCUCCAAUUUGAAAUUGUACAAGAAAUGUCAAUUUGAAUUAUUUUUGAAUGUUUUUUUAUGCCAAUAAAAUAUUGUUUCAAAACAUAGCUAAGUAUUAUUUAAUUUCGUAAAGACGAAGCAAACUCCAAACAAUCUAAAACUUUAAGGACUAGUUUGUAAUUUUUGUUUUUCCUCAAUUGUCUCUGGUUUGAUUCAAUUCUUGAUCUAUACAAUUAUUCCAUUCAAUUCAUCAAUAUUAAACAUUUAUACAUUAUGUCAUGUCAUGAAUGAACCUAGAUAAAUUCAUUUUUUGAUACCCUUAAAGUUUUACAUUUAUUUCAAUUUAGUCUCUAAAAUCGAAAUAGUCAUAACUUUAAAUUCUGAACUUCAGUUUGAAAAUCGACCUCAAUUUCAUUUUAGACUGUCUGUUAAAAAUUAGUGCAUCUUACUGGAUUUUUUAAUUUACUUGUUUUCUUUAUCAAAUAAGUUGGUUCCUAUUAUAUAGGGAUAUGAUCAGAUUAUGUUUUGUUAGUUGAGGUUUUAGUGGGCUAUUAGUUGCAGGUUUUUUAACUUUAACGUUACAUGUAGUUAAGCUAUUUAUAUGUCAUUUUAUCUAAUGUAAUUUUGUGUGUUUUUUUUAGUAAUCAAAAACGUUCUUUAAUACUUUAAGCUUUUCUUGUUAUUAUUUCUUUCAUUACCUCGGUCAUUCUUUUUUGUUUUAUGGUGUCAGUGCCAGGUUAUUCAUUGGUUAAUUGUGUGAAAGGGUGUUUUGCUAGUUGCUGCAAUGGAGGUUUCAAAUGGAGGAAAUAAUCAGAUUGGUAUGGAGAAGCUUGUAGGCACUAACUACAAGUAUUGGAGGAUGUGUAUGGAGGCAUUUCUUCAAGGCUAGGACUUGUGGGGAUUGGUUGUUGACCUGAUGCAACAAUCCCUCCCAAUAUUCUCGAGAAUGCCAAGUCACGAAGGAGGUGGAAGGUCAAAUGCGGUAAAGCUUCAUUGAUCAUGUUCAUGAUGUUAACUCUCCAAAAGAAGUUUGGGAAACGCUUGAAAGGUUGUUUACCAAGAAGAAUACUGCAAGGUUGCAAUUGUUGGAGAACGAAUUGGCCGGGUUAAAACAAUGAGGUAUGUCAGUUUUAGAAUAUUUUUUACGAGUUAAAAAUAUUUGUGCUGAAAUUUCAGAGAUAGAUACGGAUGAGAAAGUUAGUGAAGCUCGUUUGCGUCGUUAUCUUAUCCGCAGUUUGAAGAAGGAGUAUGGGCCUUUUGUCACUUCUAUUCAAGGGUGGUCGACACAGCCUUCGGUGGAGGAGUUAGAGAAUUUUCUCUCUAAUUAAGAAGCUUUGGCAAAGAAGAUGGUGAAAAGUUUCGAAUCUGAUGCCAGUCUCUUCUCAAAAGGGAAGCCAAACAAGAAGAAUGAGUCUGGAAAUAAAGGCAGAUCUGAAGACUCUAGUUCGAAAAAAGAUGGCAACUCACAAAGCAAAAAGUCUUUCAAAUGCUUCAGAUGCAGAAAGACUGGACAUAUCAAGAGAAAUUGCCGUGUGUAGAUUUCCAAGGCCAAUAUCGUGUCCACGGAAGAAACCGAUGAUCGACUCAAAUGGGAGCAUUGCUUUACUGUUGAAGCUAUUGAACAAAAGUCAUCAAAAGCUUUUGUCAAUUAUGCUGAUAACAAGAAGGAGGAGUGGAUCAUUGAUUCUGGUUGUUCUCACCAUGUAACCGGAAAUGAUACUUUGUUCUUAGAGAUGCAUGAACACCAUGGAGAUCGAGUUAUUGUGACUGCAGAUAACUCCACUCAUCCGGUAGCAAAAGAGGGCAUUGUGGUGAUCGAUGUUGUCGACGAUACGAGAACCGAAAGUGUCAAAUUGACUGAUGUGUAUCAUGUUCUAGAUGAAGCUUAUGUGAAGAAAACAAGCCAAACCGAUAACGCUGCUAUUUGGCAUGCUCGAUUGGGUCAUGUGGGGUACCAAAUGCUGCAACAAAUUUAUUCGAAAAGGUUGUUAGAUGGGAUGCCGAUCUUGAAGAGUGUACGUGAAGAUGUGAUUUGUCAAAGCUGUCAAUAUGGUAAAUCUCAUCGUCUUCCUUUCAAAAGCUCAUCAAAUCGGAGAUCUUCUUUGCUCGAAUUGGUUCAUACAGACUUGACGGGACCAACGAGAACACUGAGUUGUAGCAGCCACUGUUAUGUUAUGGUUUUGGUGGAUGAUUACUCAAGGUUCUCUUGGGUGAAAUUUUUGAAAGAGAAGAGUGAAGCAUUAUCCAAGUUUGUGGAGUUCAAAGCUGCUGUUAAAAAAGAGUUUGGAAAGAAGAUUAAGUGUCUUCGAAGUGACAAUGGCGGAGAAUACAUGUCCAAUAAUUUUUUUCAGUAUUGUGUUGACAACGGCAUCUGUCGUCAAAUGACUUGUCCAGAUACUCCAUAGCAGAACAGAGUUGCAGAAAGAAAGCUUGGUUAUCUUGCUUCGAUUUGCCUUUCAUGGCUGCAUGACAAGAAUCUUCCUCGAGAGCUUUGGGCGGAAGCUGUUCUUUGUGCAUGUCAUGUGACAAAUAGGCUGCCUCCUUGGCCAGGUACACAGAAAUCUCCUUUUGAGAUUUUAUAUGGUGAAAAGCCAAAUGUGAAUUAUUUUCGAGUCUUCGAUUCUAUUUGUUAUGUACAUGUUCCGAAAUCGAAAAGAACUAAACUUGAUCCGAAAGCAAAAAAGUGUGUAUUUGUUGGCUAUGAUUCUUAUAGGAAGGGAUGGAGGUGUAUGGAUCCGGAUACAAAGAAGUUUACUACUUCGAGAGAUGUCGUGUUCGAUGAAGUAUCAUCUUUCUACUCCACUCAAAGAUUUGCUGCAGAAAAUAUUAUUCUUGAAGAUGAUGAUGAAAACUUGGAUGAGCUAUUUCCAAGAGUUAAUUUGCAACCAUUCAUUGAUGAUGAGUUGGAAAAUGAAUCUCCAACACCAACUCCAAGUCAAAAUGUUCAAUGACAUGAAGGUGGUUAGCAACAGAGUGAGGAGGUCUACUAGAGAAACGAGACAACCUGAGUAUCUCAGAGACUAUGAGGUGCAGCUUAAUCAUUGUAGUAUCACUUCUUGUUUCUUUGUUUGAGCGUUUGAUGAAGAACCAGUAAGUUAUGAGAAGCCAAAAGCCAUUCAAAAUGGGAGGCAGCCAUGAAAGAAGAAAUUGAAGCUUUAGACAAAAAUGAGACGUGGGAGUUGGUUCUUAAACCAGAAAAUUGUAAGCCGAUCACUUGUAAAUGGGUUUUUUGCGUGAAGAAAAAAUUAGAUGGCACCAUUGAUAGAUUUAAAGCUCGUCUGGUGGCUCGUGGUUUUUCUCAAAAUUAUGGAUUGGACUACGAGGAGACGUUUAGCCUAGUAGCAAAGAUGGUGACGGUGAGAUCGAUUAUUUUGCUUGCUGCGUUUAAAGGUUGGAGACUAUGGCAACUUGAUGUAAAGAAUGCUUUCUUUACGGAGAUUUAGAUCGUGAAGUAUUUAUGGAGCAACCUAUUGGCUUUGUCUCUAAGGAAUUUCAAAAUCGUGUUUGCCGUUUGAAGAAAGCGUUAUAUGGCCUUAAGCAAGCGCCACGAGCAUGGUAUGGUAAAGCUGCUCAAUAUCUCAUUUUUUGUGGCUUUAGAGUUUCUGAAUCAGAUUCUAGUUUAUUUAUAAAAUUGGAAUCAGGUGCACAUCUCUUGGUAUUAUUAUAUGUUGAUGAUAUGAUAAUAACUGGAGAUAAUGAAUCAGAAAUUUGUAAUUUGAGGAAUGACUUGUCUGUUCGUCUUGAGAUGAAAAUUUUGGGGGAGAUUGGAUGUUUUCUUGGUCUAGAAGUGGAAAAAUCAGAUCAAAGUUGUUAUAGCCCGAUUUUGGGUCUAGUCAGAACAGUGGUUUUGGGACCACAAAUUCAACAAAAAGAAAAUGGGUAAAAAAUAUUAUUAAUUUAGUAAGUAUAAGUUAAAUGUGAAGUUAGGAAAAUUUUUUAAAUACUGAAUAGUGCACUAGAAAUAAAUAUUAAAAUAAUUAGAAUCGAAAUGAGGUAUCAAGACCUCGGGGAUUUUAAACCGAGCCAUAAAUAUUUUUAUAAAUAUUUAUGGAGUGUUAAAAAGUUAGUAUUAAAGUUUCGUUAGGAAAUUUUAAAGUUCCGAUAAUUAAUUGAACAAAAAGGACUAAAUUGUAACAAAUGCAAAAUUUUGGGAAAUGAUUAAGUAGCUUAAAUGAUAAAAGGAAGAGGGCUUAAAAGGCAAAUAGACCCAAGGUUUAUUUGGGCUGGACGGCAAAGGCAUGAAAUCAGCAAGAAAGUAAGGAGAAUUAAGGGCAAAAUUGGAAUAUUGCAAAAUUUGCUUAAUAAAGUUAGGACCCAAGUGGAAUUAUCUAGAUUUCUCUUCAUUUUUCUGAAUUCUCAUCAGCAAAAACACCAUGGAAGGGCUUCUUCAAGCUGGUUCUUCAUAUUUUUACUACAAGUAAGUUCAAUUCUUGACUAUUUCUUGAAAUUUUUGUAUUUUUAUGACUUUUACAAUUAGGCUCACUUGUUAAAUUCAUUAGUUUUUGAUUUUAUGAAAGAAGUUGAAAGUUGAUAUGAAUAUGUGCUGGAAUUAUAUGAUGAUUUAGCAUGGAAUUAGAGCUUUAAAUUGUUCAUAUGCUGAUUUUAUUGAAAGAAUUGAAUAGAAAGUGAAUGUUUGGGACCUAAUAGUAAAAGAGUUUGAAGAUAGAAUUAUAUGUGGAAAUUCUGAAUUUCAAUAGUUGUGUAACAACUUAUAAUGUCUAGGUAAAGUAUUAAUUCAGAAAAUUGGAUUAAUUGAGGGGUUAAUUGAGAAAGGACCGAAUUGUAUAAACUGUAAAAUUUGGGGCAAAAUGGAAAUCAACAUUUUGCACUAAAGCAGUUUUGGACAGCAGCAGUAGUGUAACUUUGAAAAAUCACAAAAAAUUGUAGAGAUUGAAUUAGAGGAUGAAUAAAAUAUGAAAUUAAAUCUUAUUGAGUCUAGUUUCUUAUAAAAGAAACGGUGUGAGCAAUGAAAUUGUAAAUCAUGAGAUAUAAUAGAUUUUGUGAGACAAGGUCAGAAUGAAUUCGGGUUCCCCUGUUCUGACUUUGGAAAAUCAUUAAAAAUUUUACAAAAAUUAUUAUGAGUUAUAAUUUAUAUGGUUAGAAUCCUUAAUGAGUCUAUUUUUAUAAGAAACAAACAAAAACAGCAUCCGAAUUCUGUACAAUGAGAUAAUUAAUUUUUAGUGAAGAGUGGUCGGAACUGUCAGACAGCAAAACAGGGAAAAAUUUAAAGAAUAAACUGUACUAUUUGGCUAAACAAAAAAUUCUGAAAAUUUUAUGGAAAUAAUAUAUGUGAGUCUAGUUCCAGGUAAAAUUAACGGAUCUUAAUUUGGAGCUUUUUAGCUCCGGAUAAAAAUAAUUUAGUGACUCUAACUCAGACAGACAGCCUAAAUUUUUCAUACAAGAAAAUAGUGAAAGUAUGAAUAAUGUUGUUUAAAUGUGUUAUACACAUUAAGGAUGAGGAAUGGAGAGGAGGUGGAGGAAAAUUGGGAAAUAUAUGAAUGGUUUAUCAUGUUGUUAGUUCCAAAAAGAGUUAUGUUUCAAUACACUAGCUUGCAACUAUGGUUGAAUGAUAUGUUUAUAUCUUGUGUGAUGUGCAUAGGAAACAAGUGUGGAAAGAUAAUGAAAUAGUAAGUUCAUAUGGCUGAAAUUUAAUGGUUAAAUGUUAAUUCCAUGAAUUAUAUGAUGUAUGAUGAGAUAUUUUUAUUGUUGAAAUAAGAAUAAAAUAAAAGUGCGAAAGCUGAAUAAAUGAUCAAAUUGAGCGGAACGCCGGAUUUGAGUACUUCUGAUCAAGUGACAAAGUGAUAAGUGAUAGCUUUAGCUACACUUAUUUGAUCAAGAACAAGUGAUAAGCGGUGACAAAGUGAUAAGUGGUAGCAUUAGCUACACUUAUCUGAUCAAGUGAGAAAGUGAUAAGUGGUAGCAUUAGCUACACUUAUCUAAUCAAGUGAGAAAGUGAUAAGUGGUAGCCUUAGCUACACUUAUCUGAUCAAGUGACAAAGUGAUAAGUGGUAGCCUAGCUACACUUAUCUGAUCAGGGACAGGUGAUAAGUGAUCAUACGUAAGACCAUAGUUAUACUAUGGCAAAGUGAAAGUGAAGUACUCAAUUUUCCGUGACCGUUCCCUAAUUUGAUUAAGGAUGGUAAGUGACAAAUGAGCCCAAAAGAAUUAAAGUAAAUGGAUAAGUGGUAGUAUAUUUAUAUCAGGACGAUGUUGUUAUUCAAGCUAAAGUGAUAUUUUCAUUGCAAAAUUGAGAAUUUCAUAAAUGUGUUAUUGAAUGGUAUAAUCAAUAAACAUUGAGUUAAAUGGUAAAUACGUAAUAGUGUUGAACUUGAUGUCAUUGAAUUGUAUGUGAAUUAAAUGGAAAUUGCUAGUGAUAUGAUGUAAAUUGUGAGCAUGAGAAAUUGCGACUUGAAUGAAAUGGAAAUGAAGCAUUGAAUUGCAUGAGUAUGUAUCGGGUCUCAUAGGCCCUAAUUAUUAUGAUUAUAAUAUUUCGAGGAUAUAUUGUGAAAAGUUAUAGAAGCAUGUUAAUUAUUUUGAAAGUUUAAAUUUAUAUGAAAUUUUAUAACUCGGUUAAAUAUGCUUACAAGUGCAUAUGUUUUGGUGAUACCUCGUACCCUAUUUCGGCGUUGGAUACGGGUAAGGGGUGUUACAAGGUUACUUUGUUUCUCAAAAAGGCUAUGCAAGGAAUCUCUUGGAGCUUUUCGGUAUGGGGGAGUCGAAAGAAAAAGCUACUCCGAUGGAGCCGAAUUUGAAGUUGAAGAAAGAUGAUGGGAGGCCGUUGGAAGAUGCAAGGAAGUUUCGACAACUUGUUGGAAGCUUAAUCUAUUUGACCAUUACAAGGCCUGAAAUUUCAUACUCUGUUAGUGUUGUUUCUCAAUUUAUGCAAAAUCCAACAAUUAUUCAUAUGGAUGGAGCAAAGAGGAUUUUGCGUUAUGUUAAAGGAACUAUUGGUUAUGGUCUUCUAUACAAGAGAUGUGAUAGCUUUAUGUUGAGUGGAUUUACUGAUGCUGAUUGGGCUGGAGAUACAAACGAUCGUCACUCGACUUCGGGAUAUUGUUUCAGUAUCAAUUCAGCAAUGGUUUCUUGGUGUAGCAAAAAGCAAGGUGUUGUUGCUUUGUUGAGUAUCGAAGCCGAGUAUCUGGCAGCAACUAUGGCUGCACAAGAGUGCAUUUGGUUGAAGAGGUUGAUUGGAGACAUAUGCAAAGUUAAUUAUGCUGUAAAAAUCAAGUGUGAUAAUGAAAGUGCUAUUAAGCUUGCAUCGAACCCGGUUUUUCAUGCUCGAACGAAGCACAUCGAGGUUCGACAUCAUUUUGUUCGAGGAAAGGUUCUAAGUGAAGAGAUUGAGCUUGUAAACAUUCGCACCAACGAUCAAGUGGCUGAUAUUUUCACUAAGGCUUUGGUGAAGCCUAAGUUUCAUCAAUUUAGAGAUGCUCUUGGAGUUCUUGAUCGUAAGCAUGCACUAAGGGGGAGUGUUAAAAAUUAGUGCAUCUUACUAGAUUUUUUAAUUUACUUGUUUUCUUUAUCAAAUAAGUUGGUUCCUAUUUUAUAGGGAUAUGAUCAGAUUAUGUUUUGUUAGUUGAGAUUUUAGUGGGCUAUUAGUUGCAGGUUUUUUAGCUUUAACGUUACAUGUAGUUAAGCUAUUUAUAUGUCAUUUUAUCUAAUGUAAUUCUGUGUGUUUUUUUUUUAGUAAUCAAAAACAUUCUUCAAUACUUUGAGCUUUUCUUGUUAUUAUUUCUUUCAUUACCUCGGUCAUUCUUUUUUGUUUUACUCUCUACUAUCCAUUAUUAUCAAAAUUUCACAUCAAUUUCACAAUUUAUUUACUUUAGUUAUUAUGUACAAAAUUAACAACCAAACAUCACAAUUUAGUCAUUUUUCAUAAUUUAAGCUUAAAAUCUAUAAAUUUAACACCAAUUUCUUCAAGAAAUCAACCAUGAAAUCUAUAAAAAAAAUUUAACAGUUUUGCAAAUUGAUACAUAGGUUAUUUAAAUCAAACUCUCAUGACCUCAGAAACACAAAAAAAAUUAUACGAAAAUGAUUUAGAAAUGCAUACCAAUUGAGGACCGAAAGCUUGAAGCUCAAAAAUGGCUUUUCCCCUUGAGGUUUUAUGUUGAUUAGAUGAAGAAGAAGAAGAAAUAAAGAUGACAACUUGCACUAAGUCACCUUUAUAUACUUAGAUUAAAUCUUAAUUAAUCAAAUUUAAUUAAUUAAAUCUUAAUUAAUUAACCUUAAUCACAAUUAAUAAAAAUUGGUGGAUGUUAACAUCAUCCUACACUAUUUGAUAUAACCAAAUGAUCUAUUUACCAUUUUGAACCUUUAGCUAAUUAGAAAUCUAUAGCGAUAAGACUUUCAAAAUUUAGUCUCUGUAUCUUAAUUAAGCAAUUAAUAGACAAAGUUGAAGGUUUAAAUUUUAAUGUUCUAUUAUACCAACUCUGUAAAUAUUCAUAUUUAAUAUUUACAGACCUGAAUUACGAAAAUGAGAUUUUGAAAUUGUAUUUUCCAGUACCACUGAAAAUCGGACAAUUACGUAACCUAUUUGCACCAAUGGGCCAAACAUGGCAAAUACUUGACAUGUAUGUCUUAAUAUCCUCAUCUAUUCUCUUCAAUAUAAUAACAUCCAAUAAUUGUUCCAUCCACUGUAACUAUCACGAAGAUUAGAUUGACCAAUACAGCCUACAAUUUGAAGAAGCGCGAUAUUUUCAUUCUAGAGAAAGAUAUAAUUGAAACAAAAUUGAAAUAAAGAUUUCAAUACAGAAUCAACAGACAUUCCAGCUAAUACUUAUCAAUUAUUUGCAGCUUUAUUGCUCCAACUAAGAUGGUUUUUAGUCGAAUAUGGUAAAUGAAAUCAAUGAACACCAGCUACUUGAUGAACGAGUGAAUCAAAGUCCUGAUAUGUGCCGGCUUAUUGGUGAAAAAAUACAUGGGCUAGUUUUGCAGCAAUUCAUGAUCUUACAUUUUAUAACCUUUGCUUACAAUUAUUCACUGACUAAUCAUUCAAUGAAUGUAGGCCUCAAAUUUAGCCACUAAACUUUAUUCUUUAUUUUUAGAUACAUAUUAUUUGAUCACUUCAUACAGCCUAUUACUCAUAAUAACUUCCAAUUUCCCUUCUUUAGGUUAGUUGCAAAUGUACAGCUUUUUCUAGAAGAAGAAAAUUGUCAAGAGCCACCUGUUCAAGAGAGGCGCAAACAAAAUGUAAAAAUACCUGACCUACUUACGGUACAGCCAAGUAAUCAUGUCUUUCUAUGCUAGAUCAUUAAAUCAAUGACUACAAAUUUCAUGCCAUGGUCGUGUAUCAUUUAUGCCAUUGAUGCUGCUAUUUUCUAUUCUAAUGCAUAAUAGGGAUUUAGUGUUUUUACCGUUAAAAUUGUGUCCUUUAAUUUUGGCUCUUUUCAGUUGUUGAUCAUGUCCACCUAUGCUUUAUUUUACUACUAUUGCUUUCUGUAAUGAUAGAUGAUUGAAUCGGUAGAAUUUUAUUAAUCCUCAACAUGUUUUAUCUUGACAUAUGGAUCCUAAGCAUUCCUUGGAUUGUGCCCUUUUUGUUCAUUUAUUUUUUCUUGGAACCUUAUUACAUGUUGUACCACUCCAGCUUUUUGGAGACAAUGAAGACGACUAACUGCUGAAUUCUUUCUUCUGCAGAGGAACCAAUGGCACGAGACUCAAAAAAUCCUACUCUUUUUUAUACCUUCCUCACCUCUUUGUGACAUUAUAGCUGAAAAAUGAUGUAUGCUAAUACAUGAAAUGUUUCCUCUUGCCUUUCUUUUUGUAGUACUAAAACUACAAAUAGUGUUUGCAAAACUCUUUAGAGAAAAACAAAUGUCUGUAAAUCUCUUUACCCGUAAUCUUAUCUUUUCCUCAUUGUAAUAGUUGGAAAACUUUUUAUUUGAAAACGAUGUCAACUACUGGGAUAAGUUAUUGUAAGCAUCUUAAGUGUUUCAUAUUAAAAACAAACACUGUUAUUGUUUAUUUUGUAGUCUAAAUUAUGAUAAUUUCUGCACAAAAUUCACAUAAAUGGUUACCCUCCCGAAGCAGAGCGAGGGUGAUGCAUACUAGUUAUUAAGAAAACAGGACCUUGUAGGGCUUAACUGUUGAAUCAAGAAAGAAAUUUCUUUUAAUGCCUUCAAUUGUAACAUCCCGAUUUUGGGCCUAGUCGAAACAAUGGUUUCGGGACCACAAAUCCGAUGAGGAAAAUUUUAUUUUUACUAUAUUAUUAUGGCCUAUAAUUUCACGGAAAGAUUUCUUGAAAAUUUCGUUCAAAAAUUUUGACGUUAGGGCACUCAAUUUAGCCAAAAGGACUAAAUUGUAAAAAGUGCAAAAGUUGAGUUUUAUUGGUUAAAGGUACUUAAUUGCUAUGGAAUUAUAACUUAGGGGUCCUUAUAUGGUAAUUAGACCAUUAGUUAGUGAUGGACAAAAAUGAACAUAAGUGAAAUAGGAUUUUUUUUAUGUAAGGGUAUUUUAGUCAUUUAGUAAAUAAAUAGAAUUAAAAGGGAAAAAUAUGUAAAAAAAAUUGUGUUCAUCAUCUUUGCUAGGUGCCAAAAUUUGAAGGAAGCCAUAGCUAGGGUUUCUUCACUUUCUCAAGCUCAUAAUCGAGAAGAACGAAAUUUGGAGGUAGAUCGGGGAAAGAAAAAAAUUGAGGACUAAAGUGUUAGAUUUGAUCACAUUUUUGUACCGAGGUAAGUUUACAGUAAAUAAAUGCAAUAUUUCAAUAAUUAUUAUUAAUGCUGUAUUUUUUAGCAAUUAUGUAUUUAUUUCAUGAAUAUAUUUAAUGUUGACUCAAGUAUGAGAUGACAGAGAAUUAGUGACACAAGCCUCAUUGAAACACUAGGAAUGUAUUGGAUACAAAUGCCAUGACAUUUGGGUAAAGAGGUCCCAUGUAAGACCAUGUCUGGGACAUGGCAUUGGCACCGAGAUGAGAGGUCCCCCGUAAGACCAUGUCUGGGACAUGGCAUGGGCACCGAUAUGAGAACUCCCAUGUAAGACCAUAUUUGGGAUAUGGCAUUGGCAGUACAGGAAACAUCCCAUGUGAGACCAUGUCUGGGACAUGGCAUGGGCACCGAUAUGAGAACUCCCAUGUAAGACCAUAUCUAGGAUAUGGCAUUGGCAGUAUGGGAAACAUCCCAUGUGAGACCAUGUCUGGGACAUGGCUUUGGCAUGUUAUUAUCAGAUAUGAGACCCAAGUAUCCUUAUUAUUCCAAUGUGACUCAACGGGCUAGAAAACAGAUUAUGUUCUACGAAAGUUCAAGUAAAAGUAUAAUUAGCAACUUCAGGUGAGUUAUAAGAGUUAAGAACAUAUUAUGUUAUUAGUGAGAACCAAUAUUUUAGCAAGAGAAGAGUAAGUUGUAAUCUUAAGCUAUCUAAGUAGAUAAGUAAGUAAACAAGUAAAUGAGAGUCAGUAAAGAGAAAACUUAAGAACAUGAUACUUGUAUAUCAUUAUUUAUGUUAAAUGAUGUCAUUUAUUUAUUUGUAAACUUACUAAGCUUUAUGCUUACUUCUUUUAUUUCUUUUUCUUUCAUAUAGUAUUAUCAAGCAUAGUCGGGAUCUUGAAGACGUCGGAGAGUGUUCACACUAUCAACCACCACAACUCGGUAUUUUAAGACGAUAAAUAUUUUGGGCUAUGGCAUGUAUAGGGACUUGGUCAUUUCAAUUGUAUAUUCUUAAAAUAUGACCAAAAGAUGAUAUGUAAAUGCUUGAUGAUGAAUAGUUAUUAAAAUGGCUAAGUAUGAAGGUGUUUGUGGUUAUAAAUGUCUAGGUUAUAAAUUAUGCAUAGAAAUCAUGAAAGAGUAAAAAUUUGUAGUGAAUCAGUUUUGAGACAGCAGUAGUGACGUGAAUUUGAAAAAUCACCAAGGAUAGUAGAAAAUGAAUUAGAGAGUGGAUGAGAUAUAGAAUUAAAUCUUAUUGAGUCUAUUUUUAUAGAAAAAUAACAGUGUAGACAAAGAAAUGAUAUAUUCCGAGAUAUUUGCAUUUUAGUUAGACAAGGUCAAAGUUGUUUUCGGAAUCCCCUGUUCUGAAUUUGGAAAAUCAUUAAAAAUUGUAAAAAAAUAUUUAUGAGUUUUAAUUUAUAUGUAGAGAUUCCUUAUUGAGUCUAUUUUCUUUAGAAAGAAUUUAGAACACUAUAUGAAGUAUGUACAAUGAGAUAAUUUAAUUUUAGUGACAAGAGGUUAGGACAGUUGAUUAGUGAAACAGGGGAGACUUUAACUAAUAAACUGUACUAAUUGGCUAAACCAAAAAUUCUGAAAAGUUUACAGUAAAAAUUUAUAUGAGUCUAGUUUCAGGGAAAAUUUAUGGAUCUCAAUUUCAAGUUUCAUAGCUCGAGUUAUAAUUAAUUUAGUAACUAUUGUGCAAGUGAAUAGACUUACUAUGAACAGUGAAUUAACUUUUAAAACUAAAUUUUUAUGCCCCGAACUUUUAAGUUAGUCAAGUAACGCCUCAUGCUCGACUCCGGAAAUGGACUCGGUUAAGGGGUGUUACAUCAAUUUUUUUUAAAGCUGAUUUUUUUUUUUACGAAUUAAAGUUUUGAUUGUAUGUUAAUUGCUUGAGGGAAGGUCGGAUACUUUAUUAUCCCUAUUUUUAUUUGUUAUAUAUUUUAGCCAUAAUGAUUUUUUUGGCUCUACAACUUUACCAAAAAAAUCAUAUUAUCUUUCAUUUAAUUUUCAUCUCUUUUAACCCUUUAACUUGUAUUUUUUUAUCAAAUCACCCCAAAAUGGAUCGAAAACUUAACAUUUGUAAACUUUGAUGAUGUGGCAUACACAUUAAUUGUCACAUGGAUGACAAGUCAACAUUUUUUAAAAAAAACUUAAAAAUAUUAAAGAAAAUAUUUUUGAUAUUUUUAAUGAUUUUUUUAAUUAAAAAAGUUUUUAUAUAUUUUUAAUUUUUAAAAAUUAAUUAAACACAAACAUAGAAAUUCGCAUCUAUGUGUCACAGGCCACAAAUUAAAGCCUGCGACCAUUUCGCAUAGAACACCCCAUAGAGGUCAAUUUAUUAAACGUGGUUCAUUUGACCCGCAUGAACUGGCUCGAAUCGUGGAACCCGUAGAGAAACCCAUCUACUUUAAGCCUUGGUGGUCUAGUGAAAUACUCCAAUAAAACUAGAGUUACUAGGGUAAAUAAUGUAAAUCUUAAAUGGAUAAGAUUGUAUAGAGUUUAAAUUCCUUAUAACUCUCAAUUGUAGAUAAGCGGUAACAUUAAUCAUCGAUGUAACUCAAUCUGUAUCGUUGCUUCUAGGAAGCUCAACUAUAACUAGAGGUCUCCCUCUUCAUUUGUAAUCAUUCCAUUCAUAGUUGUGAAUAUAUUUGAGAGCAUUUACUCAAACACCUUGUGUGCAUUGCUUUUCUUUGGCUAUUCUGCUCUUUCGAGCUUCUGUCUUUGAGUGUCACAUCCCAAAAUUGGGCCUAGAAGAAAUAGGGGGAAAAUUGAGUUUUAAUUUUUUUUUAACAUAGGGUAAGGGAAGUAGAAUGCCUUAAAAUUAAUUUUUUGCUAUAAAUCUAAUAAGAAUGAGUUUGUUGGUUUAGUGCUAAGGUCAUAGCCUACCUAUAGGUUCCAAGUUUGAACCCCUUGGUGAGCAUUCAACCAAAAUAUUUUUAUUUUCUUGUUUUUACCGCACCAAAAGUGACGAAUUUUAAAAUAACCCAGCCCAAAAACUAUAUUUUUUUAAAAUUUAGUCCUUAAUUUAAAAUUUUUCCCAAACCUACAUAAAUUUUUAAAACCUAUUCCAAUUAGGAAAGAUAAGUAUUAUAAAUAAACAAUUUCAAAACAAACCCUAGAAUUUCAUCUAGCAAUUUUUCGAGAAAACAUCCAUAAACACUUUAUUUUCCAAAUCAAACUUUCAAGCGAAAGGAAUCGAAAUCUUCAAAAUCAUCCCUCAAGUAGAUCUUCAAUCUCUUCUCCAACACUAAGGUUUUAAGUCUUCAAAAUAGGUGUGGGAACUAAACCUAAAUCUUUGUGUAUAAUUGAAUCUAAUAGCAUGUAGAGAACCAGUAUUGGCGAACCCUAGGAAAACCCCCCUGUAUGUGCGAUCAUGUAGGUGCGAGCCUGUAGAUGCGAAACCCCUUACACAUGAAAACCCCAUGCAUGCGAACCCUUACGUGAAACCCCCCCUUUCAUGCGAACCCUGUAUGAAUACCAUGCAAACCCUAGGUUGUUAUGUGGAUACUCAUACUGUGAACACAUGUGCACAAACAUAUAGGAAUAUUCAUGUGAACCCUACUAUUAGAUGCGAACCCCCUUAUACGUGAAAACCCCCUUGCAUGCGAACCCUAGUUAGUAUACAUACGAGUCUCAUAUUUACAUGCGAACCACUACUAGUGCGAGUCAAUUAUAUGAUACCACAUGCGAACCCUACUAUUACAUGCAAACCUUUAUACAUGUUAUAUUCUAACUUUUUUUGUUAAAAUAGGUGAGACUUGUCUAGUAUUACAGACGACCCUACAUAUACCUAAUUUGCGAACUCAUAUGUUAAAAGUAUGCAAAACUAUCUAUGUUUGUUAUGUGAACUCACAUGUUAGCAGUAUGUGAACCUAUAUAUAUCAGUUAUGCCAACUCACAUGUUAGCAGUAUAUGAACCCAUAUGUCUGUUAUGCAAACUCACACGUUGGCAAUAUGUGAACCCUAUAUACACCUUUAUGCAAACUCACACAUUAACAGUAUGCGAACCCUAUAUACGCCUUUGUUGAUGUUAGUUCCCAUGCAUCUUGUGGUGCAGCAAUCGUGGCCAUGCAGGUCACAUGGAGAAAAGAAGCAGCACAUGAAGGCAGUAACUGGAGCUUGUGGAUGCUGUCCAAAUUCAACUUAUUUUGUUGGUUUGAUUUUAUAGUUUGUAACUUAGUUCUUUUGGAACUUUCUUGGUAAAACUUUCGAUGUAUUUUUUAUGUUGAUUGACUGAAAAUUCAGCAAAGCAACUUAUGCAAGCUAGUUUAGCAAUUUUCAAUGUAUUAAGUGGUGUUAGGUAAGUGUUUAGGUAGUAUUUUGACUUGUAAGCUUAACUCAUGUUUGAUAUAUGUAAUGGCAACUUGCCAAUGCCUUGUUAAUGAAAAAAUUCAGCUUGUUUUCAAUUUCUGUUCUUAAAAACAAAAAGGUUUCUACUUUGUUUCUUCUCCAAGUCACGAGGCUUGCUGACAAAGCAAAGCUAAAUCAGCUUGCUCACUGCCUUUGACUCCAACAGCCUUUAUACAAACUCACACGUUAGCAGUAUGCGAUCCUUAUAUACGCCUUCAUGCAAACUCAUACGAUUAGCAGCAUGUGAUCCCUAUAUUUAUGCGAACCCUUCUAAUAACAAAUAUGCGAACCUUAACUUGCGAACCCUAGGCAGGAACCCUACACUCGCAAAGCCUUCUUCUGAACCUGUACAUAUGCUAGAUAACCAAGCCUAUUAGUUUACGUUAAAUCACUGUACAUAUGAGAUUGUUUGUUUACUUGCACAAAUUAUAUGUGUAUUUACUAUUCGAUACAAGAGUACCUAUCGACCUUUUGAUGAGAAUUCAGAGAUUAAUGAUGAUAAUUCCAACAAUCGGUGGAAGAACAAGUUAAAUCGAGAAUUGGUGUAAUUUAAGGUAAUAAAGAUUAAAUUUUCAGUAAUAAAUAUAAAAUUGUUAUGGAAAGAAAUGAUGGGUAAAAAAAUGAGAGUUUUAAACAGAAGAGAGGAAAACUUCAAUUUAGGGUUGAAGAGGAACUAAAAAUCCAUGUGAAAUUAGGAAAAAAAUAUUAAAUACCUAGGAUUAAAAAAUUUGAGGGGGCUGAAUGGUAAAAUACCCUUUUUGCUUAAAAAUGAAAAGAAAUGGAAAUGGGGAUUGAGUUUGGCAUGACUUGAACCUUGGAAGCAAAGGAAAAAAUUGCAAAGGCCAUACCAUUUGGGUUGCUACCUACAUUUGGCAUAUUUUUACACUAUUUAAUAUAUAUCCUAGCUUAGUUUUGAUCAUAGGUUGUUGAAAAAAAAACAAGGGGUAAGAGUGUGGCUUCAACCUUAGUUCUCUAGUUAGUAUACUAAGCUCUUAACCAUUAAGAUUAAGGCUCAUCUCUUAGUCAAUUAAUUCAUCUAACUCUAUAUAUUUUGGUGUGUUACAUCUUGAAUUAAAAAAACCCAUAAAAUGCAUGUAGACUUGUAUUGCUUGGUACUUGGUAGUAUAUAUGUAGACUUGUAUGUUGAUUAAGCCACCUUAAUUAAGACCAAUGUGUUAGACUUGUCUAUGCAUUGAACAAUUUAGAAGAAAAUGAAGAAAAAGACUCUAAAAGCACUUGAAAACAGAUAAAACUCAUAUGUCAUUGACUAGUUAAAUGUGGUCACCCAUAAUAGACCCUGUAUUUGACUUUUUGUUGAGGGAGAUUGACUCCUUUGGGAGAAGUCUCCUGAGUGUUGUUUGUCAAGCAGUCAGGGUUGUCCUAAACAACUAAAGGUAUUGUCCCCAUGUCGAGAUUUUAUCCCUAGCCUCUGCAAAAUAAUCAUGGAGAAUAUGUGCGAGAGAAUUCAAACACCAACCAAUGCAUGUGUAGCCUUUACCUUGCCACCAUCUUUGGGAACCCAUAAGGAUAAAAUCCCAACGAGAGAAUAGUAUCAUCUAUUGAGGGGUCUGUCAACCCAAUAAAUGAAAUUUAAAUGCAUACUUUUUUUUUAAUGAAAGUAAAUAUCAUAUUUAAUUAGAGAAAAGCAAUGAAAAAUCCAACAAUAAAAUCCUUAGCAAAAGAUUAAAACACAAUUGUACCAUAAAUUAAAUAAGAAACUAAAAAAAUUCAAAUCUAACGAAGACAAUAACUUGAUUCCUCAAAGCCACCAUAAACAGUAAUUCAUACGAAGGCCUGUUGCUCAUUUUAUAGGUUUCCAUUUUGAUUUUGCAAAAGAAGUUUGAAUUCCGAAGCGAGCCUAGUACAUGAGAGAAAAUUGUCGAAACCGUCUUUUUGAAAACAAAAAUUUAGUUGUCGACUUUAAAAAUAAAACUGGAGUCGCCACCGAUCCUUUAUUAGGGUGUGAUCGGCUCACCUUAAAAAUUAUUUUGGUCUACGAGCUUUAAGAAAACGAGUCCGGGAGUAAGUUACGCAUGAGGAAGGGUUAGCACCCUCGUAACGCCCAAAAUCGGUACCAAAUCGAUUAUUUAAUGUCUUAGUGUCGUGGACUAAAAAGAAGUUAAAAAAACCAAAUGAUGAAAUCAGAAAAGGAUAAUCAAUUGUUCAAGACAUGUAAAGAAAUCGAGUCCCAAUACGUUAGGGUACAAUUUCUCAAAAUUCCCGAACUUUGAAUAUCGCUUUUAUUUUAUGCGAAAACAUUCAUUGUGAGAAAGUAACAUGCCACACCCAAUACGUUAGGACACGACAAGUUAAGUUCCAAAAAAUGAUUUUUAUACUCAUGCAUUUUGAAUAAAAAAUAUUCUCGAUUAUUUAAAAUUAACAAAGAAAAUCGGAACCCAAUACGUUAGGGCUCAAUUUUCUCAGAAUUCCAAAUACCGAAUUGUGCCUUUUAUUCGAAAAUUCUUAUUUCGAGAAGUCAAAAUAUCAUGACCAGUAAGUUAGGACUUGACAUUUUUUGAUUCCCGAGAACAAGCUUCUAUUUGAAAUUUGCAUGAAUUUAUUUCAAAAUAAAUACCUGGUUUUCUAAAUUCACCAAGAAAUAAUCGCAAUCCAGUAAGUUAGGAUACUGUUUUUCUCGAGAAUCAUGAAUGCCAAAUAUUUUGGAAUUUUAUAAAAUAUGAUGAUUUUAAUGCUUUGACAGAACCAAAAUAUAUUUUCUUUAAAAAGUGUAGAAAAAUACUAAUGUAUCACAUAAAAUCAAUAUUUUAAUUUUAAAUUAUAUGCAUAUAUGUAUUUUCAAAAUAUAAGUAUGAUACAUAAAUAAAUUUUGAAAAUAUAAGUAUGAUACAUAAAUAAAUUUUGAAAACAUGUAUAUGCACAUAUUAAAACAAGUAUAUAUAAGUAUACACAUAUAAAAUAAAAUAAUGAAUGAGAUAUGUAUAUCAAAAUAAAAAUUAUCAAAAUUUCUACAAAAAAAAAUCAUGUAUGUAUAUACGUAAUGAAAAUUGUAAAAAUAAAAAUAAAAAAUAUGCAGAUGUGUAUAUAUUUACAAAAAAAAAUUUAAGUAUACAUGCUUUAGUAAAACAGAAAUAAUAAUAGUAUAUGAAGAAAUUAGGAAAAUGUGUAUAUAGAUGUACAUAUAUAAAAAAAAUGCAAAAAUAUAUUUACAAUAAUUUUGAAGGGCGUACGUGUAUAUCAAUAUCUAUUUAUGCAUAUAUAUUAUAAAAUAUGAAAGAAUAUAUAACUAUAAUAGAAAUAUAAAUGUAUAUACGUAUAUAUGUAUAUAAAAGCUAAAAAAGAAAUAAUAACAAUAUAUAUAUAUAUAAAUAUGUAUAUGUAUUAGAGAAAUAUUUAAUAUAUAUAUCUAUUAGCAUACAUAUGCGUAUGUAUGUAAGUAUAAUUAUAAUACUAUAUAAUAUAAUAAUAAUAAUAAUAGUAAUAAUAAUAAUAAUAAUAAUAACAAAAACUACAAAAAAAACCUUAAAAAGCACCAUUAAGGAUUAAACUGAGAGCUAAACGAAGUUAAAAGGCCAAAUUUAAAAAUAGAAAACACCAGGAAGGACAAAGUGAUACGCGCGCCAUGAGAGGAGGACUUAAAAAACAAUUUUCCCAAGUCGCUGAAGCACUGUGCAGUGACAUGGAUUAAAUCGUCACGCGAGCAAAAUAUUUGGGCCGAAUUUAAAAAGGAAAAAAAACUUGAUUGAAACACGUAGCAAAAGGGGAAGGGCUAAAAUAUAUAACAAAAAAACACAAAAAGUCAAUCUGGUAAAUCGAUGUUGGGUACUCUAAUUUUAGGAUUCAGAAGGCUUAAGAGUGUUUUCGCAUCAAAAUCGUACUAGGUGUGUCCCCAAAACACAAAAAGUCAGGUUUCGAUAAAAGCCGAAAAUGCAUCCAGUCGAUGCCACACGGACGUGUGCCUGGUCGUGUGGCUAGCCGUGUGUGAGACACGACCUUGUGGUGGUGUGAGUGUAGCGGUAUGGGCCACACGGGCUAGGCCAGUCUGGGCAUAUAGGCCCACAAUUUUAAAAUUUUCCUUAAGGCCACAUGGUUCGUUUCGAAUGAUUGUGGACCUACCAUAGGGUCGGUAAUGGCUAAUCAAACACUAAAUUAUGUGAUAUGAUAUUUUGAUAGUCUGCAUUGUGUAGGAUAUCGAUAUGUACAUCUGUUCUAUUUAAGUAUAUAUAUGCUAUCUGUAUAUGAGCAUGUUAUGCAUAAUAUUACUGUAUCUAUUAUUUCUAUAUUCUGUAUCUGUGAUUGUGGUGGGUUUUGUAUAUGUAGAGGAAGUGAUCUGUAUGGUGACACUUCCCUUAUAUUCUGGCAGUUGAUUGUAUAUUAUCUGUAAUGUGUUGUAUUGACACUAUAUGGUGUGUAGGGAUGGGUAGGUGUUUUAAACCUCAUAUGGUGUGAUGGGAUGGCCGAAGAUGUUGUGUAGAGGAUGGGGGUAAGAUUCUACAUAUCUGUACUACUUAUCUCAUUCUGUUAUCUAGAUUUGGAAUGGAUAUAAGUCCGAAUCUGGAUCUGACUGUAUAUAAGACUUCUGUUUGUAUUGCAUGUCUAUUUUUGUUGGGUUACACACUGAGUUUAUGAAAGCUCACAUAUGUUUGUCUGUUCUAUUCAGGUCUAUAGACUUAGGCGAAUCAGUGUGACGGAGCCUCACAGUGACCACGAGAUCGUAAACUGUUUAAGAUUAUGGUUUUUAUUUAAUUUAAGGAUUAUUUCUAGAAGUUUGUAAUAAUUGGACUUUCUAGACUAUUUGACUUUUAUUUCAAUUUUGGAGGCAUUUUAACUUUUAUGGCCACGUUUGACCAAAAUCACGGUUUUACUAAAAUAAAGGAUUUUCUAAAUACAUGAAUUAGAUUUCCAAGAUUCAAUGCUUUUUGAAAACUUCGACCUUAGAUUAUGUAUUGGAAAAUUAAUUAAUUAAAUAACGCUUCUAGUAACAAAUAGUACACUUGGGGUAUUUAUCAAAUGACUAAAUAAAGCUUUAUCAAAAUAUCACUGUUUUCAAAACCAUUCCAUGUAACACUCUUGGAUUCAGCCACAAUGUCUAGGCCGAGAUUAGGGUGUUACAUUUAAUGCUAUCAGAGCCAGGUUGCAAAACUCAAGCUAUGAAUUUUGGGUUUCAAAAAUUAUAUUUUGAAAAAGAACAGGUUUUCAAAUAAUUUGGAUCAUUCUGAGUAAGUAUGUGGUACACUGAGUCUAUGGUAUUGAUCCUGUAAGUACUUUUGAAAUUAGAUAGAACUUUCUGAAAACAUUGUAGUUAGUACUUUCUAAAACUAUACUGAAUUAGUUAAAAAUAGAAACCUCUGAAAUAUGUUCAAACUUCUGCUAAUUUGAGCAUAAAAUAUCUGUUAAUAAAGAUUGGAACUGAUGCAUAAAAUUUUGUAAUGUAGAUAAAUUUGAAAAUAUACGAUGAGCAAUUGUGGAACUCACGGUCAUGGUAUUCGUGGGCGCGUAGGGUCGUAGGGGGCUGGAGCUGAGUCUUUUUCUCUGGGCAGUAUGCCAAACUUAGAUAUGAGUGAGACACCGGUUUCACCUGCCAUUGAGACAAGGUCUCAAAGUCGCUUGGCUAGGGACGACGCACUGUCUCAAGCCAUGUUGAGGGUUUUGGAGAGGGUCACUAGACCUCAUUCUGGAUCUGUGGGUCGAUAACUGAACGACUCCGAUCCAAUAGAGCUGAGCUGUUUAGGUGUGUCAUUGGAGUCACCCCUACUGUGGCCGAGUAUUGGUUGGAGGCCACUGAGAGGAUUAUGAACGACAUUGACUGUACUCCUAAGUAGAAACUUAAGGGUGCAGUCACUUUACUUUGUGAUGAGGCAUAUCAAUGGUGGUUGUCGAUUGAGGAGGGUACUCAACGGGACUGUCUGAACUGGGAUUAUUUUAAGACUACCUUCUAGGGGAAGUAUGUGGGUGCGAGCUAUGUUGAUGCUUGUAGGCGUGAGUUCAUGAAUCUCACGUAAUGUGAUAAAUCUGUGGCUGAGUACGAGGUUGAGUUUCUGAGGUUGAGCCGCUACGCUUGAGGCAUAGUGGCGACUGAAUAUGAGAAAUGCAUAUGUUUUAAGGAUGGCUUGAGGUAUAAUCUGAGGGUAUUGAUUGCUCCACAGAGGGAGCGAGAGUUUUCAGUUCUUGUGGAUAUGGUGAAGAUCGCCAAGGAGAUUAAAUGCAUAGAGCGCUAAAAUAGGGAUCAUGAGUGAGGCAAGAAUAAGAGGGAUUCAGAGCCCUCUAGUUCUGUUUAGAGGCCUAAGAAACAGGUCAGACCUGAUUGGCUUGUUAGAGUAGGGGUUCCUAUUGCUUCUACUAGGAUUUAGCCAUGUGGUGAUUGUUUUAGGCGCCAUUCAGGUGAGUGUUGGAGGAGGUUAGAGGCUUGCCUGAGGUGUUGGUAUUUGGAGCACCACAUUAGAGAAUGUCCACUCCAUACGGAUUAGAUGCAAGCUUCAGGACUGAGUUUUAUAUAACCUCAGAGGGCAGUUCAACAGCCACCUAGGGGCCGUGGUCCGACUAGGGGUGGUAAUGGUAUGGGCCGAGGACAAAGAGCACUGGGAAAAGGUGUUAGUCAAACUGAGGCAAGGCAGCCUGCACUGGUUUAUGUUGCUUGAUGCCAAGAGGAUAGAGACGCUCUUGAUGUGAUCACAGGUACGUUCUUUAUUUUUGGUGUUCCAUAUACUACUCUGAUAGACAUAGGUUCUACUCAUUCCUAUGUAGGUAGUACUAUUUCCAAAAAUUUAUUGAUUUCUGGUGAGGGUACUUCUAGUGAAAUUAUUGUACUGAGUCCGUUGGGGCAGUCUGUUCGAGUAAGUAGACUUUAUAGGAAUGUACAUUUGGAAGUACAAGGGAUUGUGUUUUUGGCAGAUCUGGUAAGGGUAGUUCUAGUGAAAUUAUUAUACUGAGUCCUUUGGGGCAUUCUGUUCGAGUAAGUAGACUUUAUAGGAAUGUACCUUUGGAAGUACAAGGGAUUGUGUUUUCAGCGUUUUAUUCACAUAAAAGCAGCAAAAUUUAGCGGCGUUGUCUACAGCGGCAUUUUUUACGGUGCUUGUGAAAGCGCCGCUAUAGGCCUAAAAACACCGCUAAAAGCUUGUUUUGCUGCAGUGAAUUAAUAUUAUUAUAAGUGUAUUUUCACCUUUUCAUACUUUUAUAUAAUCUUUAAGUAAAACGAUUGAAAAUUAUUAUUUGAGAAUCAAACACAAGAGUAACAAUAUUCAUAUAGAAAACGCUUACCACUCCACUAAUAAUCAUUUGUUGAUGUAUUUUUGGUAAAAAGACCCCUCCAAUCCCUCUUAAUUUCACAAUUGCUCAAAUUAGUCCCUCUCAUAAAAAUUGGAGCAAUUUAAUCCCUAUCAAUUUUGAAAGUGAGUAACUAAGGACAAUUAAUUAUGGUGUUAAAUUCUUCCAUCAAUUGUACAUAAUUUUGAUUGGUAUAAGAAUAAAUUUAGCCUUCAAUGUUUAUAUAUUUUGUCAUUUUGGCCAUAAUUUAAAAAAAAUUCAAGAAAUUGAACCUCAACAUUUACAUAUUUACACAAACGUUGCGGGAAAAUUUUGUUAAAUUAAGACCAAAUUGCAAGUGUAAGUUUUGAGGGCUAAAUUUAUUAUUAUACCAACCAAAAUCAUGUACAUUUUAUGGGAAAUUAACAUCCUAAUUAAUUAUUCUUAGUUACUCACUUUCAAAAUUAAUAGGGACUAAAUUACUCUGAUUUUUUUAGGGUGACCAAUUUCCUCAAUUUGGAAUUUGAGAGAGACUAUUGAGAUCUUUUACAUAUUUUUUUAUAAAUAUAUAUAUUUAAUAUAAAAUAUAUUUGUUCACACACAUCGUGAGUAUGAUAAAAUAUUUUUAUUGUUAAUUAGUUGGUGUCAAAAAUUAACUCGACGCCAACUCAAUAUUAAUGAUAACAAUAUGAUAAAUAAUUGAUUUAUUUAAUAUUCUUAAUUUAACAUAUUGAUAUAAAUUUUAAGACAUGCUUGUCUUGAAGAAUUGUGAUUAUACUUUUCGAGUAUUGACUCAGUUUUCCACAAUUGUGGGUCUCUAUUUAAGACAAACAAUUUCAACAUUUCUUCAUAUUGUUUAAUCCAAAUGCAUUAAGGAUUUUCUUAUAUCAUUGUUUCAAAAAUGAUAAAAAAAAACAACGUCGACAUUGAAUUUGCUGUUUCACAUUCAAUUUUUGGAGAAGUAGAAUCUUCUAACUUAUUUUCCAUCAACUUCACUUCAAUUUUCAAUCACAAUCAAUUGCAUUCAAGAGCACCACAUAUUUUUUGGAUGAAACAAACCUAUCAAUUUUAAGAUAAACGGGUCUUUAGGGUUAUUAAUUGAGGGCCUUUUCCACAAUUGUCAUCGUUAAGCAUUUUUCAAUCUUGUCUACUGUGAAUAUCGUUUUUAAGCAUUUUUCAUUGAAAUAACGAUUAAUAGACAAAUAAUAUUCAAGUAAAACAAUUUUUGUAUAUUGGUUUGAAAGGUUUUCUAAAUAGUACAAGGACCUGAAACAGAACCACUGGACAAAGCUAACCAAAUCUAAGAGUUGGAAAUAUUUGGGAAUGAAUAGUUUAAAUUGUGAUUAUUUCUUCGGGUUCCUGUCAAAGAUAUCAGCUGAGCAAGAAGGCAGGGUAAUGUGCCAAUGAUAGAACCUUGAUGAACAACGAGCAAAUGUCAACCUAAGCAUUAAAAGGGGAUCAUUCUCAAAAAAUGACAUUCUACAUGUAACGCCCCAAAAUUUUAAUUUUGGGUAUUGUGAAUGUAUGACACAAAUAUCUGUCUGCUUUAGUGGUUAUGUGUUUUGGGUGUGUUUGGGAGGUCUCAAGUUCAAGUCAAUACUUGGGCAAAUUUUGGUAAUUUUAUGAAUAAGCCCUAUCUCUGGUUAUAGGCUUUUAAGUAAAAGUUGGCAAAUAAUUAAUAGAAUGGGUCUGUUGGUCUAGUGGUUAAGUGGAGUGUUGGUGUGAAGAAGGUCAUGGGUUCAAAUCUUUGGGACGGCAAGGUAAGUCGUUUUACUCUCCAUCUUUCUGACGUUUUCUCUCCCCCAUGUCUGCCGAAUUUUUUUUCUUUCUUCUUUACUUGUUACUCGGUUAUCUUUUCUUUUCUUUCCUCUACUACUGUCGAAAUUCCCUUGUUUCCCCUAAACCAUUCUUUCCUCUUGAUUUCGUAGCUUUAAGCAGCACUUGUUCAAAUUUAGUAAGUUGUUGGGUAUCAUUUUAAGAUAUUAUUUUGUAUUCAAUAGUCUAAUUUUGGGGUGUUGACAGUAGCAUUUCACGAGGAUUAAGGCUCUCCUCGUGAUUUUUGCAACGUACCGAUUUUAAGUUUUGCGGUAAGUGUUCAUCAUUUUAUGGGUAAGUAUUUUGGUUUCGGGAUUUUAAUUACUCACAAGGUAAGACUGAUUAUGGUGUUAUUUGCUCAAUUAUACGCUUAGGAGUGCUCGGGGACUAUUUUAGCAUCAAACAAAACCAAGUGUGCACCCGAAUCGCAAAAAUAAGGGAUUCGGCGAAAAGCCGAAAUUGCUUGCUGUUUGGACAGCAGCAGUAGGCUAACUUUGAAAAAUCAGCAUAAAUUGUGGAAAUCGAAUUAGAGGAUGAAAAAAAUAUGAGAUUAAAGCUUAUUGAGCCUAGUUUCUCAUAGAAGAAACGGUGUAAGUAAUGAAAUUGUAAAUCGUGAGUUAUAAUAGACUUAGUGAGACAAGGUCAGAAUGAAUUUGGGUUCCCCUGUUUUGACUUUGGAAAAUUAUCAAAAAUUGGAGAAAAAUAAUUAGGGGUUAAAUUUUACAUGCUUAAACUAUUAAUGAGUCUAUUUUCAAUAGAAACAAAUGAAAAUGUCAUCCAAAUUUUGUACUAAGAGAUAACUCAUUUUUAGCAAAGAAGAGUCAAAGUUGUCAGACAACAGAAAAGGGAUAAGUUUAAAUAUUUUACUGUACUUAUUAGCUGAACCAAAAAUUUUGGAAAUUUAUGGUAGAAAGUUAAUUGAGUCUAGUUUCAAAGACAUCAAACGGAUCUUAAUUCGGAAUUCUGUAGCUCAAGAUAUAAAUUUAUGUUUAUCUUAUUAUCUUUCUUAUUUUAGAAUUGAUUACAUGAAAGUUAAUUGCUAAUAUUAUUAGUUAAUUAUUAGUUUUCUUCAAAUCAAAUUAAACCCCGAAAGGUAUCUCUUUUUUUAUAUUAGUUUUAGUUAUCCAUUAAAUUUGUUUCUUUGUAGUAAAAUUAAAUUAUAGAAAUAACAUUAAAAUUUUAAAUAAAAAUAAUUCACAAUAAUUUAUUAUUUAAAAAACGCCCUGAAAUUUAAAAUUAUUGCUAUAAAUAUAUCAUUAAAUUAUACAGAAUUUAAUUUUUCUUUCAAAUACUAAAGUUAAUAAGGAAAGAGAAUAUAGUACAUAUCAAUAAAACUAUUAAAAAAGAAAUAUUGUUUAAAAUCAAUAGCGUCUAAAAAUUGUCAGAAUGAAAUAUUUGAUUUUAUAAGAUUUCAUUACUCUAAAAAAAUAAAAUAUGACAAUGCUUAAAAAUUUUAUUAAAAAAAGUUUUAAAUUUUAUAUAAAAUUUUAAAAAAUAAAAAAUAGUACUAAAAAUUUUUAUAAGCAAAUUUAAAUAUUAAUUAGUAAAUUUUUUUGUAAUAUUUAUAUGUAUUUUCAUUUUUAUAAAUACUAUUAAAACUUUUUAAAAAAAAAUUGAAUGCUAUUUAAAAACAUUAUUAAAAAAUAAAAUAUUAUAUGAAAGUUAAAAUGACCUAAAAACAUAUUUUAAAAAUUUAAAUACUUUAUACAAUAUUUAAAACUGCUUAAAAUUUCUAAACCCUAAAAAAUAAAUAAAAUAUAAUUUUUUUCUAAGAAAUCAAUAAAAAUAUAUUUAUAAUUGAACUGUCAACAAAAUUGUGGGAAAUAUUUAAAUUUUAUGAAAUUUUAAACUUAAACUGUCAAUAAUAGAAAAUUGCCUGAGUGACUUGGGAUAAGAGGUUCAACAUUUCUGGAUCGCAUUGCAUUUAAGGCGGGUCUUUAGGGUUAUGCUUUAGUUUUUUAGAACAUUUUCCACAAUUUGCCAUCAUUACUUGUGAGUGAUUUGUGGGGUAAGAGGUUGAACACUUCUGGAUCACAUUGCAUUUAAGACUGGUAUCAUUCAUAAAUUAUAUAUCUACAACAAGAAUGGUAGCCUCUUAUAUUAUAUUCAUGUAUCUAUUUUGCAUCUUUCAUUAUAAUAUGAUUUAGUAAUUUUAAUAUUUUUAUAGAAUAAUAUGCUUUAAUUUUUUUUGUAUCAUUCAUAAAAAUUAUAAUAAACUUACAAAAUGAUUUAAUGAUAUUUAAUUAUUAACGGAAAAAAUUUAUAUCAUAUAUAUUCUGUAUAUAUUAAGAUUUUGAAUGAUUAAUUAUAUAUCUACAUAUUAUAAUAAAUUCAUCUUUCAAAAUUUUCCUAAACUAUAUUCAUAAUAUUAUAAAUAUAUUAUAUCAUAAAUAUUCUUUCAAAUGUUUUUUAAUGUUUAAUAAUAAGUUAAUUUAUAAAAUAUUCUUUCAAUAAAUUAACGUGAUGAGAUCGUUAGGUGCUUGGAUUUGGUGACGGGGACGAGGAGAAAAGGGAUGGAAGUGAAGAGAAAUGUUGGGAAAUUGAAAGGGUUAGCAAGGGAGGCCUCCGUGAAAGGUGGUUCUAUAGAUGUGAACCUUCAAGCUUUUGUGGAUGAUGUUGCUCAAGGUUGUUGCAAGUAAAUUUAAAAAUAUUUUUUUAAUUAUUUUUUGUUAAAAAAUAUUUUUUUCUAUGUAGCAUGCCACAUUAGCAUACUACCAUGUGGUAACUUCUAGUGAUUUUCGUAUGUAACAUUAGACAAAUUAAUCGUUAAAUCGUUCAACUGACAGAUUUCGUUAAAGGAAGAGGUCAAUUGAUUUUUUUGGAAUCAUUGAGUACUCAAUUGGUGCACUAUUUUCAUAAAGACUAAAUUAAUUUUUUUAAUUUGUUAUCGCUGAGGGCUACAGUAAUAAAAAAUUUUGAGGUAAAAUUAGAAUAACGUCCCAAAAAUCUUAUAUUUAAUUUGUAAAAUUUUACCAUUAAUAAGUAUUUGUUUUAGUGGUUAAGUAUUUGAGUCGUGUUUAUAAUAUCUUGGAUUCAAGUCCCUACGUGAAUGGAUUGUUUUUUUUGUUUUUAAUUUUUGCAUGGGUCGGGUAGGUGGUUGAGUUUGAGUCCAUUUCGAACUUUGGAAAAAGGUGGUUAGUUAUCUGAGAUGGGUUAGUGUUAGUAGAUUUGGAUUUGGUUUAUUUUAAAAUUUAUUAAUUAAUUUGUUAAAAAAUUAAAUUAGUUUUUUCCUAAUUUUUGGCUCACCAUUCUUUCUCUUGUUCUUCUUUAUUCUUUCUUUUUCUGCUACCUUUCAAAUCACGUCGAUUUGUUCCUAUUUUGCUUUUGAGUUUUUCUUUUCUUUCCUUUACGCUCCUCUACGAUCGUGUCUUAAUUCCUUCAUUAUUUUCUCGUUGUUGGCGUUGCUCGUUCGAGAGUGGGUUAGUUUCCGUUUUGAUGUGUUUUUACGAGGUUAGUAAAAGAAAUGCGUUAAUUUUUGGAUUAUGGAGUUGAUCGUUUUUAAUCAAUUCUCCAGUAAGUUGACUCCUUUGCUGUUGUUAUGUGCUAGGUUAAGAGAUUAAUUCUGAUUUGGGCCUGCGUGGUUGUGUAGAUUUUCCAUGUGAAUUCGUUUGGUAUUUUUAGGAUAAAUCAUUCUUUAAGUCGUAUUGCUACCAUCGCUAAUGUGAUGUUUUAAUUUAUGCAUUUAGGAUUUGGUAGUUUUAUGGGUGUUUUCGUAUAAAAAUCAAACCAAGUGUGUAACGAAAAACCCGACAACAACGAGCGACGAAAGUCAAAAAAUUGCACUGUCGACACCACACGGCCGUGUGUCGGGCCGUGUGACAAGCCGUGUUUCAGACCGUGUGCGACACACUGUUUGGGCUAGUUAAGCCGUGUGGAACACACAGGUGUGUGUGAGGACGUGUGCCACGCCAUGUGAGCCACACGGGCUGGCCAUUUAGGCCGUUUGAGACCAAAAUACUAAGGGCACGUUUGGUUUGCUGUAUUGGAUUAGAGGUGUAUUGGAUUAGAGGUGUAAUGGAAUAGAUGUGUAAUAGCAAAUCAACUGUUUGGUUGAAUGUAAUGGAAUAGAGGCGUAAUAGUAAAACUGUGUUUGGUUGAAUGUAAUAGAGGUGUAAUAGCAUAAUGGAGAAAACUAAAAUGACCAGAAUACCCUUAGCAUAAAUUUGUUUUGGUAAAUGAUUAUUGUUAUUGUUAUUUAAAUUUUAAUAAGAUUAUUUAUUAUCAAAAAUAAAUAAUUUAAUCAUAUUUAAACAUAAUUAUUAUUUAAUAUAUUUUAAUUAAAAUAUAUAAUUUAAUAAAAUUCUUAAUAAUUAGCAGAAAUUUGUUUUGGUAAAUUAUUUUAUUUAAAUUUUAAUAAGAUUAUUAAUAUCAAUAAUAAAUAAUUUACUCAUAUUUAAACAUAAUUAUUAUUAAAUAUAUUUUAAUUAAAAUAUAUAAUUUAAUAAAAUUCUUAAUAAUUAAUAUUCUUAUAUGAAUUUACUCAAAUCAUAAUAUAUGAUACUGUAAAAUAUAAAUUAAAAUAAUAAUUAUUAAAUAUAUUUUAAUUAAAAUAUAUAAUUUAAUAAAAUUCUAAUAAUCAAUAUUCUUAUAUGAAUUUACUAAAAUCAUAAUAUAUGAUACUAUAAAAUAUAAUUUGAAAUAAUUAAUAUUAAAUAUAUUUUUAUUAAAAUAUAUGAUUUAAUAAAAUUUAAAAUAAUUAUCUAGAUUCAAAUUUAAGAAUUAUUUACAUGAACAAAAAUAUAAUAUUUGUUUCUAAGUUAAUUAUUUUAAUAAAAUAAUUAAAUAUUUAUAUAACGGUGUUCUCAUCUUUUGGUAUUUUUAUAUGCAAUUUUAAAGAUUGAAUCCAAACUUAAAAGAAUAUUUAUUUGUAAGCAUUUCACCGGUUUACUUCAACUCAAUUAUUGAUUAAUUUUUAAUAAACAUAAAUUCAAUCACUAAUUCUCUUGGCUCCUCUGUUUCAAUAUAUGAAACAUGACUCAAUCACUAAUCCUCAUAACUCAAAGGUGAGCCAGAUGGUCCAUCAGGGGGUGCAGAAGCAGCAUGAGUCAAAGCAACUAUGGCAUUUUUCCAGAAAGAGGAGCCAAGAGAAUUAGUGAUUGAUCUUAACAAUGGCAGAUCAUUAAGAUCCCGGGUCUGGCUGUCCAACCGAUCAACAUAGACUACAACAUCGGGGGGACACUUCUUUAUGUAUUGCUUUAUAGAAGCUAGGACUUUGUGAUUGGCACCUUGCUCCAUGGCAGAAGAUUUCAAACCUGGGGUAUCAAUGAUUCUCAGUUUAACACCAUCUACCAUUCCAGUAAUCUCUUUCACUACUGUAGUGGCAGGUUCAAAUGCAUGAAUUGAGGUCUUUGACUCACCAAAGAUUGAAUUUAUUGUGGCACUCUUGCCCACCCCAAUCUUCCCAAGCACAAGCAUGUUUAUGGAGAAGCUUAAAUCAUCUUUACCCUCUGUUUCAAGUUCCAAAGCUUUCCUCUUCGCAGAAUCAACACUAAACAGUUCACUGGUUUGUCUCCUUGCAACAUGUGCCAGUCUAUAAAGAACCUGUGCUGCUAAAGAAUCUUCAGUAGAAAGUCCGAGCCUUUGAAGAAUCCUCAAAAAUUUGACUCUUAUAAGCUGUAACUUUUCCAAUUUUAUUUUAUCUUCUUCUGUCAAGUUGUUGUCAGAAUCUCCCCUACUUGUUACAGCAGGACUAAAUAUGUUAGGCCUGUUUGAUCGAGGUGCGGAUGUUGCAUUUUGCAGUGAGGAUCCUAAGCCUGCAGGACGUUCAACAGUGAAAAGCCUAGAUCCAUCUUGAGAGGUUAUAGUAAUGUUGCCGCCAUCAGAGCCAGCACCAGUUGCUGCUUUCAAGAGGGCUGCCAAAGCAGCAGAAUCAAAUAACUCCUUCCCCUCUCCUUCUUCAUCCGUAUCCCCUUCUUCAUCUGAAUCAACAGCAUUUGUCUGUAUAUGAUUAUGAGAAGUAUCAGCACCCGAGUGAGAACCAAUGGCAGAUCCUCGUUCUAGCUCCUCCAAGAAUUGCUUAGCAGCUUCAGCAUUCUUAAAGAACAUACUUUCAGCCUCUCCAUCAGUCUCUGAGCCUUCAUUCUAAUGCUGCUUCUCUUCCAUUUCACCUUCAAAACUAACUUUUCCAGCCACUGUAGUUUGCUCUACUGACUCAGGCCAAUGAGAUUCUUCUCCUGGCAGGGUUACUGACCUUUUGCUUUGAGAAUCACUAUCUAAAUUCUCUGUUUCAUGAGCUGCCAUUAUUUCUGUAGGUUGAGCAGAACUAUCCUUUGCCUGAAUUCCAUCUCCACCCCCUCCAUCUACUUUCUCAGCAAAUGCUUGUUCCAAAAUAUCUAUGAUCUCCUCAUCUUUGAGAUCAUUUAGCUCAGUCCCAGAAUUGUCUUUACCAAGCAUAACCCCACUGGCAAUAUCAGCUUUAUUCUCAGCAUCAACAGCCAACUCGUCUCCGCCGGAAAACUUCGAACCAUCAGCAUGAUUCAAGCCGUUAUCCAAGCUCGCAUUAUCGUCAACUGGAACCACCUCUGUCUCCUUCAUCACCAAUGUCUCAAUGCCUAAAGCAGCUCCAGUCAAAGGUUUCGCAUCGACAGCCAACUCCUCUUCGCCAGAAAAUUUCGAACCAUCGACUUCAACUACCUGAUGAUCUACUGUUUCUACAAUCAUAGGAUUGAAACCCUUAGCUCCACCAUCUAACACCAAAUUAUUCUCAAAAAUCCCAAUUCUACCUUCCUCUCCACUUUCCAUUGAUAAAACAGAUUGGUCGACUUCUCCAAUGGAACCCAUUUCCACCUUAUCGUCCUUUUCACCAUUACCAACACUAUCAACAUCAACCUUCCCCAUCGAACCCUCACCUCUAUAUUCCUCUAAACCAUUAUCGCCAUCCCCAAACGAGUCCUCAUUCAAAAUCACAUUCGAACCAUCAGAACCAACAAAAGGGGCAUCACUAACAUCCCUCACGGUCGGAAUUACUUCAUCAGGGUCAGCCAUAAAUGGCCUCUCGGGUACUGUUUCAAACUUCCCCUCACCAUUCUCGUUACUAUCAUUAGUUUUACCAUUCCCAUUAUCUUCCAAAGUACGUUCACUUACUGAACUAGUUACAAACUCAGAAUCAUCAUUCGAAGUUAAAGAAGAAGAAGAGGAAGAAGAACCUGGAGAGGUAGAGAGCGACUGAGAAGUGAUUUCCGGGGCAGAAAGCAAGGCGUCCAUGGUUGAAAGAGAGGAAAGGGAGAUAGAGAGAAUUGGGUUUUAGGAUAUGGAAUGAAUUUUGAGUGGCACACAGAGGGAGCAAAUCGGCAGAAAGGGUAAAACAGGGAGGGGAAACCGAAGGGGCAACUAAUCUGCAGAAAAGAGGGGGAUUAGAAAUCGGUGGUUUUCACCGAUUAGGAAGGUAAAGGAUUACACCCGUAUUAGAAAUACAUCAAACCAAACGAUGGAAUACAGUCGCAUUAGGUGGGGCCCACCGAUUAGGGGUGUAUUGGCUAUGCCAAUACACCCAACCAAACAUGGUGUAAAUUUUUCCCUAGGGUUAUACACAUCGUUAUGAUCGAUCGUAGGCCUUUCGUGGGGUCGAUAUAUAAUCAAAUAGACUGUAAAGUAUGAAAUCCGGUCAACUAAUAGUAUAAAUUCUGAUAUCUGUUCAUAUAUUUGAGAUGUUAUUUGUUCAAUAAACCUUGUAAUAGGCUAUGAGAAACUUGAGAAAUAUUAUGUAUGCUUUGUAUCUGUUAUGUCAUACAUGUAUAAUGUAUUAUGUCUGAUUUUGUUCUAUUCUUUUCUGUAUUUGCAUCUGGGGUGGGUUAUAUUAUGUGGAGGAAGCGUUUCUUUGAAUGGCGAUAAUUCGCCUAUUACACUGGCAGCUCAGCUACAAAUAUUCUGAAAAGUGUCAUAUCAACACUAAGUGGUGUGCAGGGCUGGAUGAGUGUUUCAUACCCCAUAUAGUGUGUUGGAAAGGUCGGAGAUAGUGUUAGCGGAUGGGGGUAGGAAUAUAUGUCUGUAUCUGUACUGCUCUAAUAUGAAUAUGUUCUGCUAAAUCUAUCUUAUACAAAAUAAAUAUUUAAAGUUAUUCGUUAUACAUUGAGUUUUGUAAACUCACUUUCUAUUUGUUUGAUAAUUUUAGGUAUUCCUCAGACUUUGGCAAAUCGGUGUGAAAGAACUUGGUUAAAUUGAUUUAGUUUCAUUAUCUAUUAUAAUUAAAUUUUGGGUUAUUGUGUUUCAUUAUUUUUGGACUGUUGGGAAUUUUUGGAUUGUUUUGGUUUUUGAGAUUUUAUUUUCAAUUUUUGCAUGAUACUAUUAAAAAUGUUUUAUUGGAAAUGUUUGUUUUCCUGCAAAACAACUAAUUUCAGACAAAUAAACUUAGUUUUCCAAACAUAAUGAUAUGAGAAUUUUCGCUUUUAAGUAUUCAUUUUAGAAAAUGUAAGCAAACAUCGUUUCAACUAUAAAGUUAAGUUAGAUGUAUUUUUCUCUUAAAUCGAGGUUUAAGUAAUAAAAGUUUACGACAUUUUUCCAAAUUUUACAAAAAAUUGGAUUUACAAUUGUUUUAUGUAACAUCUCCAGAUUUGGUCAUAACAUCUAGUCGGAUUUCGGGUGUUACAUUUAGUGAUAUCAGGUCAGGUUGCAAAACUCAGGCUGUGAACUUUUUGGUUCAAAAUUUUGUGAAAACUAUUUUUCGAGUAAAGUUUGUCGAAACCACUUUUUCGAAACAAAAAAUAGCGUCGACUUAAAAAAUGAAAAUUGGAGUCGCCACCAGUCUUUUUUAUUUAGGUGUGAUCGGAUCACCUCCUAAUUUAAUCAUUUAAAUAAAAGUUAAAAUUUACUAAAACGAUUAAUGGGUUUAAAAAACCUUUUUCUUUACAAACAUUAACAAUAAUAAACGAACAUCGAAGAAAUAGAAAAGAAAAAAGAAAUCGAAAAGAAAAAAAAUUAGAUUUCAAAUCACCUCUCAAAAAUUUAAUUGCUUUCUGAUUUCUUUGGUAUCUUUUUUUACUGAUUUCUUAUUGUUCGCGUAAAAAACUUACAAAGGUCUUUUCUUCCGUUUUAUAGGCAAAAUAUGAAAUAAAUAAAAAAAUACAAUAUAUGUUUUUUCUGUGUUGCUUUUCGUCCUAUUUGUAGGUACGAAGACCAGCUAGCGCUGUACAGAGGCGGUGCAGCACGUGCUUGGCUGAGGUGACUAGAGGCGUGCGGUGGCUGGGUCUGCUGUGUAGUUUAGGGUUUCUGUUGAUUUUUGGUUAUUGGGCUGGGGUUUAAUUUGGGCUUGGGAUUGUGUUUGAUUUUUAAUCUGUAAAUGGACUUUUUAAUAUUGGACUUUUAUUUUUUAUUUGGAUUAUUAUUAUUUUUUGUGUAUGCGGGUCCGGGCUCUACAAAGUUCAUUUCUGGAUUAAUCUGAAAAUUAAUUAUGUGAAGUACCGAGUCUCUGACGUUGAUCCUGUAAGUACUUCUGACUUAGAAAAAUUUUAGUUUAGAAAACUCUAAAAUGAUUAGAACUGUAGUUGGAUAGUUAGAGACAGAAACAUUUCUAUAAAUUCUUUUGAUAACUUUUUGAGUAUAAAAUAUCUACUAAUAAAUACUAAAAUUGAUACAUAAAAUUCAUAAUAUAGGUAAUAUAUACGAUGAGUACUCGUGGAACACAUGGACGUGGUAACCGUAGGCGUGGCAGGCGCCGAAGAGGGGCUCGAGCUGAGUCAUCCUCGAUAGGUACCUGAUAGGCUAUCGCUGGAGAGAGCAAUAGUCUUGAGAGAAGAAAUUUGAAGAUCGAAGUCGGAAUCUGACCUUUAAGGCCUUUAAUUGCUUGAAUAAUAAGCAUUUCCAAACUAAAAGGAUUACAAUUUCUUCAAGAAUUUGACCUGCAGACAUAGUUGAAACAUGAAGGUGUUAAAUUACCUAUUUUGUUAGUGUAAAUCAAAGAGGCUUUUUAUUUUUAUUUUUCGUUGUGAAAUAAUAUGGAUAUGUUAGAUUCUAAUCAUAUUUAAGUAUAUAUUAGUUCUUGAAGAGUUCUUAUUUUUGGUAUUUAUAUUGCAAAUAAUUUUUUUAAAUUAAGAAAAAAGGGGGGAGGGGCAAAUGUGUUUAAACUAAAGACAUCAAGGAGAGUUGUGUCAAAUUCCCAAUGCUUUUUGGAAUGAUCCCACUAAAUUGAUUAACAGACAAUUCCAAAAUUUGAAAAUUGCAGCAUUUGUCUAUACUUGAUGGAAUAGAACUUGAUAAUUCAUUUCUACUGAUCAAGUAAAGCUCUUUAAGCUUGGGAAGAUGGACACACAAAUCAUCAGGCAAGCCACCAGAAAGACUAUUAUCACGUAAAUGAAUCCUUUUCAAAGAAGAAAUGUUAAACAUGGUGCAACCUGGCCAGGUAAUUGAUAAAAUUUUGAUUUAAUCCCUUAAAAAAUAUAAAAAUAUAGACUAUUAAAAUGGUAAAAUUACAUUUUUACUAUUGUAAAAAUUACAAUUUAAUUUCACUCCUAAAAAGAUUUUCUGGCUUCGACCCUAAUAAAUUCUUUGGCAAAAGAUUAAAAUAAAAUUAUACCGUAAAUGAAAAAAGGAAACUAUAAGAAAAUCCAAUCUAACAAAGAAAAUAACUUGAUGUCCAAAAGCUACCAUAAACCGUAAUUCAUGGGAAGGCUUGUUGCUCAUUUUAUUGGUUUCCAUUUUGAUUUUGCAAAAGAAGCUUGAAUUUUGAAGAGAGCCUACUACGUGAGAGCAAAAGAAAAAAAAAUUGUUUAUUAAUUUUUAGGAAUACCGAAAUAUUAUAUAUAUGAUUAAAAAUGUUGAAUUAAAGAUAAAAUUAAGUGUGAAUUAAUAACCACAAGUGUACUUAUUACUCACCAUCUCUGUUAAAAAUGUUGGAUGUUGUUUAGCAACCUUUGUUUGAUUUUCUUCAGCUCAACCACAACAUCUUUCAUAUCUUUUCUUUCUUCUGGCAACUCAGCUGAACAAUUCAAAGCCAACUCCAUGAUAGAUGUAAUACAAUUUGCUUUAACGACAAUGUACUCAUCCUCUCUUCUUAAUAAAUCAACAUCUGCAAUUUCUAUCGCUCCUUUAGGCAAUGAACUUUCCAUCCAAUGCCUUAUACUCUCUUCUUCAACAAAAACAUUAUCAGUAGGCUUUUUCUUCGUGAAAGUUUCUAUAAGGACGACCCCAUAACUAUAGACGUCAGAUUUUAUAGAAACAAUUCCUGCUGAUCCAAAUUCUGCAUUCAAGUAUAAUUAGAACGUCAUUCAUCCUCAAUUAUUUCUAAAAUGCUUAUUCAAAUAUAUAUUCACAUCCACAUGAAACAAAAAUAUAAAAUGCAUAUUAGGAAAAUAAUCAUACAAAAAUAAAAAAGAAUUCACCUGGUGCCAUAUACCCGAUAGUUGCAAGAGUCAUGGUUUGCUUCAUUACUUCACCUUCCCCCAACAAUUUGGCAACGCCAAAAUCUCCAACAUGUGCAACCAUGUCUUCAUCUAGUAAAAUAUUGCUUGGUUUUAUGUCACAGUGAAUUAUAGGUGUUGGAUGUCCAUUGUGGAGGUGUUCUAUAGCUACCGCAACAUCUAUCAUUAUAUCGACCCUUUGUAUGAUAUCAAGGAAACAAUUUUCAGAAUGUAACCAUUUCUCAAGGUUUCCAUUAGACAUGUAAUCAAGCACCAAGGCUUUGAAGUCAACACUUGAGCAGCAAGUAAUGACCUUCACAAUAUUACGAUGAACUAUAUUACGCAUAGCAUCACAUUCAAUGUCAAAACUCCUAAAUGCUCCCUCUGUUUGCAAAUUGAAAACUUUUAUUGCAACUUCCAUUCCAUCUGAAAGCCUCCCUUUAUAUACAUAUCCAAAACUCCCUGAACCAAGCAUAUUGCUUUCCUCAAAUCCAUUAGUUGCUCGUGAAAGUUCAGCAUGUGAAAUUCUUCUCGGUGUCUUCAAAGACAACAAAUCAUCUUUAACUGGUAGAGUUGUACUCCUUUGGCAUCUUCUAUACAUAAUAGUUAAGACUAUUAGUACUAGGACAAUACCAAUUGUUGGUAAACCAUACCUAAAAGCAUGCAAUAUAAUCAUUUGGGAGUUUUUGUGGAUGUCAUUUUUGCAAGGUGGGACUAGCAAUCUAGGUGGACCACAAAGUGCACAAUUCUUCAUGAAUGAUGUGCUAGAAAAGUUUGAAAAACAUCCUUUGCUGGGAAUUUCCCCUUCAAGUCUAUUGAAAGACACAUUAAAAUACUUUAGAUAUAAAAGUUGUUCCAAAGAUUUGGGAAUGACUCCAGAGAAAUUGUUAUUGCAUAAAUCCAAGAAUUCCAAACUAAUCAACCCAUCAAAUGAUUCAGGGAUACGACCAUGUAGUAUAUUAUUUGAUAAAUCUAAUGAAACCAAAGUUUGAAGACCCCCAAAUGUGGAUAAGAUAUCGCCCAUGAGAAGAUUCCUUGAUAAAUUUAGUCUCAGUAGACUCCUAAAAUUUCCAACAUCAAUAGCAUGUGAAUUGUGAAGACGGUUUGAUGAUAAAUCUAUUUCUAAGAUAUCUUUAAGACUCCACAAAGUUGAGGGUAUUGUAGAACUCAAUUUGUUGGAAUCUAACCAAAGAUAUCUCAAAGCAGAAAUAUUACCUAAACAAGAGGGUAUGGAUCCAUGCAGCUUAUUCAACCCUAAAUGCAUCUCGUAUAGUCUCUCCAAACCACAGAGGCUUUCUGGGAUAGGCCCUCCUAAUUUAUUAGAGGAAAGAUCUAGACCUUGCAGAUUCCGCAGUCCUCCUAUUGAUGCUGGAAUGAAUCCACUUAAUUUAUUAUGGCCAAGUUCUAAAACCAAUAAGUUGGUUAAGUUACCUAUUUCCAUAGGAAUAAUGCCUUGAAGCUCACAAUUAUAGGCAAGAAAGAAUUGAAGGGAUUUUGAAAGGUUCCCGAUAUAAGUAGGAAGAACACCACUCAAUGGAUUUCCCGAAACUCCUAUGGCUUUCAAAUUCCUACAAUUCGUCAAAGAAGAAAGAAAGCUCCACUCAUGAUCAGUAGCAGAUCCUGUGAUCAAAUUAUUGUCAAAGAUUUUGAGCACUUCAAGGUGUUUUAAGCUGCCUAGCGUUUUAGGGAUUGGGCCAGAGAAUAAGUUAUGUGACAAGGAUAGAAUCUUUAGCAUGGAAGCAUUGGAGAUAGAGUUGGGAAUGUUUCCGCUAAGUUUAUUUCCCCACAAUAAAAGAAUCUCAAGCUUUGGAGCAUUGGUGAUGGGUGGUAAAUUACCUGUAAAAUAGCAUCUUUUAGUAUACAUAUUCACAAAAUAUAUAAUACAUUAAAAUAAAAACUGUAAAACUUUAAAUCAAUUAAGAAUAAAAUUUUGGCAUGGAAAAAUGUGAUGAAAUCAAUUAGAAAGUUGAGACAUAAUAAGAAGUUUUGAGUACUAAUUAGUCUUUGUGAUUUGUAUAGACAAAACAUAUAAUACACUAAUAAUUUUUUAAAAUAUUGUAAAACUUGAAAUAAAAUAAAAAUAAAAGUUUGGCAUGAGAAUGUGGCAUCUAAUCAAUCUUAAAAAUGAGACUCACACUGAAUAAUAAUUAGUUAUGAUUUGGGAAACAAAAAUGUUAAAGCCAUUGUUUUUAAUGUAAACUGGUAUGAUUCUUAUCUAUUGGGUUAAUUAUUUAUUUUUAUUAAAUUAUAGUGUAAAAUUUAAAUAUUAUUAUUUGCUCAAAAUUUUUGUAUUUUUCGUAUAUUUGAAAUUCAAUCUUUAUAUUUUUUAUUUUCUGUGAUUUAGUCUCUCUACUUUUUUUAUUAAAAAUUUUAGGUUCAUUUAUUAACACUGUUAAAAAGUUUUUGUAUUAGUAUGACAUUUUGAAAAAUAAAAUAAACUUGAUAUCUAUGUUUUUAAUUAUUCCAAAUAUUGUUUUACUAUUUCAAGAUAAAUUAUUUGUGUCUAGACCAAUAUCUUAAGAACUAUUGUUGCAUGUUUAAUUAUUCUAAAAAAUUAUUGAUUGAGUCUUAGCUUGAUUGGCAUGUGCAUUGUUGCCAAUAUAAGAGAAUGUGGGAUCAAAUAUGCUGAAGUUCAUUAUCCUCCUGUUAUGAAUUGGGGAGUUGGUAAAGUAUUAAAUUUUGAUAUAUUUUAAAAUAUUAAAAAUUUAUUAAAAUAUUUUUUAUAAAAAUCGGUUGUACCACAAUAUACAAUUUUAAUAUCAAAUUUUUAAUAUUUUUAAAAUAUUAGCGAAUAUAUACUUUAUUUCAAGUUACACAAUUUUUACUAGUUUUUAACUUUUUUUAAAAUUUUUAUCGUCUUUUAUAAUUUCUAAUAAUUUUUUACAAUAUUUAACAAUUUCUAACCAUUUUUAAUAAUUUUAUUACUUAUUAAAAAUUAACAAAUUAACUAUUUUUUAUUUUUUUAAAACAAUUAUAUAUUUAUAAUGUAGUUAUUUUUUUAUAAUUUUAUUUGAAAUUUUAAAGUUUUUUUGGUUUGUUUUCUAGAUGAUGAUGCCAUCAUGAUGUCAUCAUAUGCCACAUGGCAAUUUAUGAUUAGUUGAAUAUCUCAAUUUAUUUUUUUAAUGUCCAAUGGACUAAACCAAGAACACUUGAUUAUGUUAGAGACUACACUAGGAAUGUUUGAUAACAUUAGGUACUAAAGUAGGAAAAAAAAAAAAAGGAGCAAUACGAUGUAGGGAGUAAACUGUGCAUUAAGCCAUUAAAAAUAUAUCUAUAAUAUAUAUAAAUGCAUGGAUUUUGAGAAACUUUUGAAAUGAUAAUUAUAUAGUCUUUGUUUUUUUACUAUAUUAUUGAAUUUGUUAUUUUAAAUAUUUUUUUAUUACUUUUAAGAUUUAUCAUAUGUAUGGAUAAGAAUUUUGGUUUUACUAAAAUAUUUGGUUAAAUAAAUUCACUUCAUAAGAAGAUUUAGCAUCCUUGUAAAUAACAAUUUUGAUUCUAUUAAAAAAUUAUUUUAAAAUAUAUAUAAUAAAAUUUUAAAAUUUAUAUUGAAUUACUUUAUACUUAAAUUAUUAUUAGAAACUUUAUCAUACACAUACGUGUAUGAGAACUAUGUAUUUAGAACAUAAAUUUGUGUUUUAAAAUAACUUAUGAUAAAUAAUGAAAUGUAUAAUUUGAAACUAUUUAAUAAAAACACAUGGCUUAUCUACAAUAUUAAAAUAAAAAUAGCUUAAAUUGUAAGCAAAACAUAAUUUAAACAUAUGAAUACAUUAAAUUAAGAAUACUAAAUGAAUACAGUUAUUUAUGAUGGUGUUGUCUUCAAUUCCUAAGUUGGUGUCAAGUUAAUUUGUGACAUCAUAAAUUUAAGGUUUUAUGUAUUGAUGUGGAUUCAAAUAUCACCAUUUUUUUUAAAAUAAAAUUUAAAAUAAAUACAUUUUCCACAUUGGUUUCUUUUCUUCUACAGACAAAGGAUUUCUAAUGAUUUUUUUUUUAAAAAAAAUUACUUAUAUAAAAUAGAUUAGUUUAUGCAAUAAAAAUAAUUUCUUUUUUAAAGUUUAAUAGAAAUUAAAAAACAAAAAAAAAAUCAAUUCAUAUAAAGCUUAUUGUUUAUUAUCAGAUUAAAAUGAUAAAAGUAUACGAUAAACCCAUACUUGACGGAAUGUUACCAGAUAAUUCAUUUUUAUUCUAGUAAAGCCCUUCAAGCUUGAGAAUAUGUUGACACAUAUCAUUAGGCAAACUACCUGAUAGGUUAUUGUUGGAGAGAUCAAUGGCCUUCAGAGAAGAAAUGUUGAAGAUCGAAGUUGGAAUCUGACCUGUAAGGCCUUUAAUUUCUCUAAUAUUAAGCAGUUCCAAACCAAGAAGAUUACCGAUUUCCUCAGGAAUUUGAUCUGCACACAUAGUCGAAAAAUCAAGAUGUGAAACUACCUAUUUUGUUAGCAUAAGUCAAAGAGGUUUUCUUUUCUGUUCUACAUAAUUUGCAGAUGUUAGAUUUUAAUAUUUUUAAGCAUAUUUGUUUUCAUCAAAUUAACUAUUUUGAACUAUUUUGCCUUGAAUGAAAUAAAAUGCUCAUAUUUUUGUUAUCUAUUACUAAUCAAACUCUUUUAUAAAAAAAAAUACUUUAAACUAAAGAAACCAAGAAAAUUCAAUACCUUCUAAGUUAUUCAACUCCAAAUAUAAUUCUUUGAGUCGUGUCAGAUUUCCAAUACUUCUUGGAAUGAUCCCCCUCAAUUUAUUAUCGGAAAAUGCCAAUAUUUUAAGGUUGCUGCAUUUGCCCAUACUUGAUGGAAUGUUACCAGAUAAUUCAUUUUUAUUCAAGUAAAGCCCUUCAAGCUUGGGAAGAUGUUGACACAUAUCAUUAGGCAAACUACCUGAUAGGCUAUUGCUGGAGAGAGCAAUAGUCUUGAGAGAAUAAAUGUUGAAGAUCGAAGUUGGAAUUUGACCUGUAAAGCCUUUAAUUGCUUGAAUACUAAGCAUUUCCAAAUUAAAAAGAUUACCGAUUUCUUCAGGAAUUUGACCUGCUGACAUAGUCGAAACAUCAAGGUGUUAAAUUACCUAUUUUGUUAGUGUAAAUCAAAGAGGAUUUUUAUUUUUCUCGUUAUGAAAUAAUAUGGAUAUGUUAGAUUCUAAUCAUAUUUAAGUAUAUAUUAGUUCUUGAAAGAAAGAGUUCUUAGUAUUUAUAUUGCAAAUAUUUUUUUUAAAAUUUAAAAAAAGGGGGGGGGGCAAAUGUGUUUAAACUAAAGAGAUCAAGGAAAAGGCAUACCAUCUAGGUUAUUUAACCCCAAGUAUACUUGUUUAAGUUGUGUCAAAUUCCCAAUGCUUUUUGGAAUGAUCCCACUAAAUUGAUUAAUAGACAAUUCCAAAAUUUGAAGGUUGCAGCAUUUGUCUAUACUUGAUGGAAUAGAACUUGAUAAUUCAUUUCUACUCAAGUAAAGCUCUUUAAGCUUGGGAAGAUGGACACACAGAUCAUCGGGUAAGCCACCAGAAAGACUAUUAUCACGAAAAUGAAUCCUUUUCAAAGAAGAAAUGUUAAAGAUGGAAGAUGGAACCAGGCCAGAUAAUUGAUUGAAUCCCAAGUUCAAGAUCUCUAGAUUGGAUAAGUUGACAAGUGUUUGAGGGAUUGUGCCUGUGAAGUUAUUAUUUCUCAUUUCCAACCUUUGAACUCUGUGCAAGUUCCCAAGCCAUGAUGGAAUUUCCCCAUUAAGACGGUUGUAGCUUAAUCGAAUGAUCCUCAAACGAUGCAAUUGGCCCAAUUCUUUAGGCAGAUGGCCAUAGAAAUUGUUGUUGCUCAGGUCGAGAGAAAAUAGAAAUGAAAGAUUUCCAAGGUGUGGAGGGAUAGUACCCCUAAGAUUCAUGUUUGUAAGAUUCAAAGCUACAACUCUUUCAUGGAUGAUGUCACAAGAAACACCAGCCCACUUACAAACAGAGGUAGAGUUCGUCCAAUUGUUUGCCAACACAUUUUGAGGAUCGACAAUGCGAUCUUUAAACUCAAAGAGUGCAAACUGAUAGGAGUUGAGAUUCCGGACUGUCAUAGCCAAGGAAACAAUGGAACAUUGUAUGAAUAAAAGUGAAAGAAGAUGAAAGCAAGUGUUGUAGUUCAUGAUGGCAAGACGAAAUAAGCCAGGAAAAGGGAAGUUGAAUUGAUGAAGAAAUACCCAGCCAACAUGCUUAAAUAGGCUUCAACCCUUGCACACUUCUCAUACAUAAAGUUCACUGCCAUUACAACAAGAAAACUCGUAUCUCCAUUCAUACCUAUCCAUACUUUAUUUGACUAACUUUUCCCUAACAGGUGUUCAGUAAGGAGACAAAUCACUUUGGAGCUAUUCACCGACUUCUCCAACCUUGGUUUCAAACUCCUAGCCCAUCAAUUCACUUUAAUUGAAACGAUAUACACGAGUCUUUCGGCUUAUAUUUUUAACUUACUACUUCUCUUUUUAAUUUAUUUUUUGUUACUUCUCAUAAUAUUUUUUGAGAAAUCCAAUAUUCCAGUCUGAAAUUUCUUCAUUGCCACGUCUAUCUCCUCGGUAAGUUCGUGGCUAGGCGGCCCACUUUGGGGGCAGGAUUGUAAUUUUAGUUCUAUCCGACUCAUUUUACUAUUUAGAAAUAUAAAAGUAAUAUUAUAUUAAUUUUUAUAUUUUUAUAAAUUUAAAUUUAAAUUUAAUUUUUAAACAAUAAAACGAGUCAUUUUUAUUUGCCUAGGCUAAAUUGAAUCAGGAGUGAAAAAUUUUUUAAUCAUAAUUUACUAUUAUUUUAAUUAAUUAAAUUUUAAUUUACUAUAACUAGUAGUUGCAAAAAAAAUGACAUUCCUUUAGAAAAAUGAGAACUUAUGAAGCAUUCAAUAAGAGUUGUUGGAAUACAUGGUAACGAAACCAUAAUUCGAUAUAAAACUAUAUAAAUAAUGUAAGAUUUGUGAUACCUAAAUUGUUAUGUUUUCUAUAAAUAUAUGGAGAUUUUUUAUUAGGAAAUAAUUUUAUAUAUCAACAUUUGUUAUUUUCUUUUGAUAGAAAUUUAAUUAUGUUAUCUGUAGAAAAAAAUAUUUAUAGAAAUAUCAUUAGUAGAAAAUCAUAAAUUUGUGUGUGGCAAAAAAUUUUCACCACCAAGAAAGGGACAAAUUAAACAACUUGAAAGUCAUUGGUUGUUUAAAAUAUUAGAUAAUAAUUUUAGUGAAGAAUCAUUAAAAUUAUGACAAAAUAACCCUAGAUAUUGUAGUAUUAAAUUAGAAAAUCUCAAUAAUAUUAUUAGAGUAAAACCUAUGAUGUAUCUAAACAAGAUAUAGAAGAAUUUGAUAUACAAAUUAAGGGUAGAAAUCAUACGGAAAUAAUAAAAAACAAGAAAAAGCUAGUAUGGUCAUUAAUUAUAAAAGAUUAAAUCAAAAUAUUAUUUUUUGUAGUUACUUGAAUUAAUCAGGAUAAACAAAAAAAAAUAUUUUAGUAAAUUUGACUGUAAAUCAGGAUUCUAGUAAAUCAUGCUAACAGAAAAAUCUAAACCUUUAACAGCUUUUAGUGCACCCAAUGGACAUUAUUAAUGGAAAGUGAUGUCAUUUGAAUUAUGCGAUGCACCACAAAUCUUCCAAAGACAAAUGGAUUUUAUAUUUAAUAAAUAUAAAAAAUUAUGGGUAGUUUAUAUAGAUGAUAUUUUGAUAUUUUCAGAUACACUAGAAUUACAUAAGAAAUAUUUAAAUAUUAUUUCUUAAGAAUUCAUAAAAUAUAGAAUCAUAUUAAACCCUAAAAGUAUGGAGUUAGAAAAAAGAGAGGGAAUUUUUAUAAUAGUGGAAAUAAAAAAUUGUCCUCAAAAGAUUGAAGAAAAAAAGAAGUUACAACAAUUUGUAAUAUAUUCCUCCCAAAUUUUCAGUUGCAAAUUUAUUACAGAAUUUCUUUGCCGACAAUAAGAAAAGAGCAUAUUCACAUUUUCGUCGCAAUUUCAACUAACAACCAAUCUGUUUCCCACUUUCCUUUUUCGGCCAAUUUCAAACGUAACUGUUUUUCGAAUUUUCCUCUUUAUUUCAUUAAUAAAAUGAUCAAUCUAUUUGUUUUUUAAAUAUAUAAUUUUAUUAAUAUUUUUUAAUUAUAAUAUAAGAGUUGUUGUUUAUUUAUAGUUUUAUUACAUUAUUUAAUCUCUUUUUUAUAUCAAGUUUUUAAAAUUAUAAUAUAAGAUUUAUUUUAUCAAAUUGUGGCUUAUCAAAUGUUCAUCUAUUUUAAUAAUAACUUGAGUUCGAAUCAUUAUCAUACCAGAAAGAGUUCCCUUUAUUCUUUAUCGUAAAUUUUAUAAGAAAUUAUAUUUUAUUAUAAUACUAUAUGUGUUAGAAUAAUAUUUUAUUGUGGAUGCCCAUAAUUCUCAAAGUUGUAACCUUGAAUGUAGUAACCUCAAUGAAAUUAUGAGGCUUUUAUAUUGUAAUCAAGCCUCUAUCUAUUCUUUGUAUUCUUUGUAGAAAAUAUGAAGUUGAUUUUACUUUAUUAAAAAAUUUAAAAUAAAUUAUCUUGUUUUUUUUUAAAUGAGUUAACCAAAUUAGCAUAUUUAUUUUGAUCUAAAAUUAUCCAAAAUAAUAUAAAAUAUUAUAUUAAUAAAAUUAAAACUAUGAAAUAAUUUUUUUUAAAGAUUAUUAUUUACUUUUAUCAAACAAUACAAUUAUAUUCAGUACUUAUAUUUACUAGUUUACCAAACAGUUUUCCAAUAUGAAUUCAACACUUAUCAAAUUCAGUAUUAAAAAUUCAGUGCUUAAUUUUUUAGCACUUAACUUUUCAAUUCAUCAAGCACGUCUAAUUCAAUUUAUACAAUUCCCUAUUUGUAUCUCUAUGAAUUUAUAAAAUCCUUCUCGCAUUUAGUUGUUGGGAUCUUUAUAUGAAGAUAGAUGCUUUUAUUUUUUAUUGGUUCAUUUUUAAUUGUAUUGAUUUAUUUAAUUUUAAUUUUGAUUAAUAUAUAUGAUUAUUGUGGAAUGGGAGUAAAAGUAUUUACUUCUCAUAAACUUUGAAAUAUUCACCCUGUCUACAUAUUAAUUAUUGUAAAAUUUGAAUUGAAAUUAUGCCAUAAAAGGUGGAGGUUAGAAAACCUCUUAUUGAGACCUUAUAAUAUUUUGUAAUUUUUUGUGUUAUGGUAUAUAAAAAAAUAUCUAACCAUAGUGAUUGAUUAGUAAUAUAAAUUUGUUAUUUGUUAUGUUUAAUAUAUAUUUUAUUUAUACUUAUUCAUUUUAUUUUUAUAUGAGUAAAUGAAGUGUUUGAAGAUUCGAAAUUUUUAUCAUCCAUGUUGAAAAUAAGUGCAAAAGUGUAUAUUAUUUAAAAUAAAUUACGCAUUCAUUAAUGUUAUGUGAUAAAAUCAUUACAUUUUCUGAAGAACUAAUAUUGCAUCAAACUGUAAAAAGCUCUUGAAGAGCUAAUAUUUAUCUCCCUGUGAUGCAAAAUCUUGUAAAACAUGAUAUUAUUUUUCAAAUCAAGAAGAUUUAUGUUGAAGGAAAUAUUUAUGUGUUUUACAUUAAAACCAUGGAUAGAAAUGACAUGAGACACUCAUGUAUUUGCAUUAUAAAUAUUCCUUGAAGGAAUACACUUCACUUGUAUGAUUGACAUAUGAGAUAAUAGCAAGAAGUUUAUAGUGUUGGUAUGGCCGGCUAGACCAUCUCAAGUCAAUAAUGAUGCAAAAUAAUUUGAAGAGAAUUUAUAUGAUUUUAUUGAAGAAUGAGAAGUUAUUUUCAUUUUGAUAAUUGUCAUCAACAAUAGUUCUUUGGAAAAAAAAAUAUUGAACUAACAUCAACUAAAGUUAGAGGUUGGUUCAUGGUUGCAUUUUUUGAUGAUAUCCAAAUAAUAUAUGAGCUCAUGUAUCACAUGUAUGCAACCCAAAGUUUACAGUAUUAUUUCUUGAAAUAAUUUGAUUCUACACAAUCUCUAUAGCAUGCAAUUUGUGCUAACAACACUGGUGCAUUAUAUCCUAAGCUUGAUUUUCGUAGUUUUAGCUGAGAUAAUAUUAAGUUGUCUAUGCCUAUAUAUAUUAUACUUAAUGGUUAGCAAAAUUAUGCCUCCAUUUAAUUGCUUAACCAUUAAUAUAAGAAUAGCUUUAAAAUAAGCAUGUAAUUUUAUUUGCAUCGAGCCAACAUGUAAGAAAUAUUUGUCCCAUGAGAAUUAGCUUUUAUUUAUAAGCCAAUAGGUUUCAUUUAUGACUAUUUGGAUGUAAAAUAUCUAUUUUAUAUUCCACCAUAAUGCACUAAGAUGGACCAUCAAGUAUGAAGUUGAGAAAAAUUAGAAUUUUUAUUUGAUGGUAAAAGUUGAAAAGAGAUAUAUAUUUAUAAUUUUGAAAAAAAUAGUCAUGUUGCAAAUUUUCUCAGUAUUAGAGGGAGACAAGUUGGACAAAUACGUAUAAUUAUGUCAUCACUUUUUGUGAUCCCUCACUAAUCUUAUGUGCACAAAGUUUGAAGGAAAAAAAUAAUUUGCUAGACAUGUUUAGUGAUGACAUUUAGAGAUUGUAUAUAUUGGAUGAUACAUAUACCAGCUAAAAUGUUCCAAAUAAUUAUGCGUCCUAGAAGGACAAAGUGAUAAAAAUAAUUUUUGGGCACGCUAGAAGGAUGAAAAACUAGUUGGUUCUAUAAAUAAAAAAAUUCUUGACAGAAAAGAGUAAGAAAUGAAUAUGGCCACACGUUAAAGGAGACGAGUACUCAUGAAGAGACCCAAGGUAUAACUUUUAAUAAAACCCCAAAAGAGGUUCAAUACAUGAAAUUAUGAAUAUAAUAAGUGUAAUAACCAAAUUUUUCCCGGGCCCAAUGCCAAACAAAUAAAACCCAAACCAAAUAAAUAAAAUAAGAGUCCAAAUUAUAGUCCGUUAGGGCCCAAUUCAGACCAGCCCACUAUUCAAUCAGACCAGCCGAACAACAAAAAAAAACCUAGUAGCCCACAGCCCAACUAAGCCUAAAAAAUUUUCAGCAAAAGAAAAAACCCUAGCUGCCAUGCUAGCCGCUGCUCCUGCCCUAGCCUCUGCCCACUAUCGUACGCCACCUCUGCCAUCACCAUUAGCCUCUGACACCUGCAAAACAGCAAACAACAUGCAACAACAGAGAAGAAGACGACAAGCAAAAAACAAAUCACUAAAGGACAAAAAUAAUGAUAACAAAUAGCCUUAGUUUGGCUAUAAAAGCAAAAAAAAUGAAAACUUUGUACUUCUUUGGCAAGAUUAAUACAAAAAAGAAAAGAUUUGAACUUUUUAGGGUGAUAUUUCAUUUUUUUUUACGCUUUAGAUCUAUUUUUUUAUUUCAUCUUCAUCUACGAAAAUAAUAGAAAAAAGACUUUGAUUUCAAGGUGAUAUUUUGUUGUUUUUUUAGAUCUAGUGUUUUUUUAUUUAUUUUUAUCUACAAAAAUAAAAAAAGGAAAAGAGAAACGUACCUAAUUCACCCCGUGGCUCCGUCGACGGAAGUCCCAUCGCCAUCGUCGGAAUCGGGCUUAAAAGGGGAAGGUUUUUAUUUUUCUUUACUUUUUUUUGGAUUUUUCGUCUCAAGAAAUGGACUAAGGGAGGGGAAAUGGCCAAAAUGGUCUUUUUCCGAUGAACUCUGGCAACCACAUGUGGCAGUUAACAGUGCCGGUGCUCGGUGGCUGCGGUGGAGCCAUGGUGGUGUCCCAUGGCCGGAUCUAGAGAGGAAGCCUUUAAGAGGGAGAGAGUUUCUAACAUUUUUUUUAUUUUCUAAGGCAGAAAUGAAUUUUUGAAAAAAAAAAGUUGGGUUUUAUAAGUGCGUGAAAUGGCGCCAUUUUGCGCAAGUGCACAUCGACGUCGAAACGACAUCGUUUACCCCUUUACCCGCUUGCCCGAGUCUGGCUCGAUGAAGGUCCGCAUAUUUUCAUGCCUGAUGGGUUAUUUCCCUGCCCGAUCCUUCCGAUUUUGGGCUUCUUCUCAAUCUGGUCCUGAUCCUACUUUUUCCCGCCUUUUAAAUUGUACCAUUUAAUUUCAUUUCAUUUUCAACUCGGUCCCUCGGCUGACCAAAGGAAAUGAUGCGCAUAAAGUUAAGGGAUAUUUUCCCUUUCAAUCCCCAAUAUUUUUAGAGCGAUGCAUUUUAAUCCCUAACCUUUCAUUCCAAUCUUUUACACAUAUUAUUUCAUUUUAUUCGUUUAUUUAUUGACUUAUCAUUUUUACCCUCUUUUUAUACUUAAAAAUAUAUAUUAUUUACACUAUUACUUGCAUUUUUUUACUAUUAAAUUAUUAUUUUUAAUGUAUUAUAUUCCCAUUAUUUUACCAUUUUAUUUAUUUUGAUACUUUCAUGUCACAUUUAUUUAUUUUAAUAUUGCCAUUAUUUAUUUUAUUUUAUUCUUAUGUUUUUUAGUAUUUUAUUAUUUCUUUUAUUGUUCACGGUUUUUUUUUCAUGUUAUACAUUUUUAUCUUUCUAAUCAUGCAUUUUUCCUUUUUUUAUUUUGUUUUAGGUUACGUUAUUUAUUAUUAUUAUUAUGAUAAUAUUAUUAUAAUUAUAUUACCAUUAUUAUAGAAUUCCUUUAUUUGUAUAUUCCAUUAUAACUAUUAUUAUUAUUAGUAGUCUUUAACUCACUUCUAUUUUUAUUAUUAUUUUUUAGAAUAGUAGUCAACAUGCUUAUCCUUAUUGUUAUUUGGUGUUGUUCUUAUGAUUUUAUCAUCAUUAUUGUUGUAUUUCAUUUUUUGUUCACUCUUUAAAUAUUUUGUUCAUAUAGUUAUUUUACACUAUUGCAAUAUUGUUGCAUUACGCAUUAUGUUUCUUAUAUAAUAAUUAUUUCGCUUUCACGCGAUGUUCGAAUCAAUUAAACAUGAAUCUUCUCAAUUAUUACAUUAAUUGUUACUUAAGUUCAAAAAGAAAAUUUUCAAAAUAAGGCAAUAUUUUGCGUUUUGGAAAUUCGAGAAAUCAUACCCUAACUUACGAGGUUUCGAUUUUCUCGUUAAACUUAAAUAGCAAAAUAUUCUUUUAAAUUUCAAAAUGCAUGCAAUUUCAAUAAAAAUCAAAGGCAAGCUUAUUCUCUAAGGUUCCAAAUAUCGCGUCCUAACUUACGGGAUGUGACAUUUCGUUACCUCGAGACGAGUAGGUCUUCAACUCUCUUUUCGAUUUAUUCGAGCGUUUUUAAUAACAUUAAUAAAAAGGGAUCGUAUUUUAAAUUUCUAUUCAAGUUUUCAACCUUGGACAUUAAGACAUUACUUAAUCAACUAGGUACCACCUUUGGGUGUAUUGAGGGUGUGUUUUCUAGAUUUUGUAGACCAAAUAUUAUCGUUUUUAGUAAAUUUAAAUUUUUAUUAAAAUGAUUAAAUUACAAGUGUUGACACCAUUUUUUUGAUGAAAAACGGGGUCGACUUGGGUUUUAAAAAAAAUGAAAAACGGGAGUCGCCACCAAUCCUUUUUGAUAAGGUGUGAUUGGGUCACCUUGAAAAAUGGUUGUUUUUAAUAAAUGAUUUGAUUUUAUUAAAACAACGGUUUUGGUCCAUGAAAUUUAGAAAACGGGUUCGGGAGUCGAUUACGUACGAGGAAGGAUUAGCACCCUCGUAACGCCCAAAAAUUGGUACCUAGUUGGUUAGCUAAUGUCUUGAUGUCGAAAAUUGAGAACUUGGAAAAAAUUAAAAAUACGAUCCUUGUAUUAAAAUGAAAAUUUUAGGAAAAGGGGGGCAUACUUCACGCUAAUCGAGAAAGAGAAUCAUAUCCAGUAAGUUAGGACACAAUGUCUCGAAUUCCCGAUACGCGAAUGAAUGCCAAAAUUUUACUUAUUUAAAAGACAUUUUAGCCGUCUCGAAUUUAAAAAUGAAAUCACGACCAGUAAGUUAGGACGUGAUUUUUUAAAACUUGAGUUUGAAAAGAUUCGUGCAUCUAGAUUUAUCGUGAAAAUCAAUACCCAGUAAGUUAGGGUACGAUUUUCUUGAAUUUAAACACGAAAUGCCAUUUUUUAAAACAAAUUUUGUUAUAUCGAGUGAAAUAAAAACACAAAGUCGUAGUAAAAAAAUGUGUAAGCAAAUUACAUUGUUAUGCAUGGCAAAAUCAUAAUGAAUACAAAAGUAUAAAAAUGAUACGAGCAAUAACAACAAUAUAAAAUAAAUAAAAGUCAAACCUACAAUAAUAUUAAAUAACAAUGUAUAUAAACAAAUAAAAUUAAAACAUUCAUUCAAAAUAAUAAUGAAAAUGAAAUAAAUAAAUAGUAAAUACAAAAUAAAACAAUAGUAAUGAAUAAAAAUAAUAUAAUAUAUAUAUGUAUGUUAGAAUUAUAAAGUAUAAAAAUAUACGUAUGUGUAUAUAAGAAUAUGUAAGCAUGUAUAUACAUAGAUUAUAAAAUAUAGAUAUUUAUAUAAAAAUGAGUAUUUGUAUUAAAUAAGUUGAAAAAAAAUAUAUAUAUACCUACAUAUAUAUAAAAAAUUAUAUAAUAAUAACAAUAUAAUAAAACACAUAUAUCUAAAAUUUACAUAAGUAAAUAUAAAUAAAAACAUACUAAUAACAAUAAUAUUAAUAGUAAAAUGAUAAUACAUAAAAAUGAUGAAGAAAAUAAUAAAAAUGCUUAAAAGGGGACUAAAUCGAAGUAAGAACCAAAAAAAAGGGGCAAAAUCGAAAUAAAGACAAGAGGGACUAAAUUGUAACGCGCGCUGAAAGAGGGGGACCAACAGGGUAACUAAACCAAAGCCUCAAAACGCUGCUCUGUAAAGGACUGAAAUGAGACAAAAAUAAAAUUUUGUGGCCAAAUUGCAAAUAUGCGAAAAACUUCCAUGAAAUCGCUACAAAAUCAAAGGGACUAAUUGCGCAAAUAGACCCUUAAACAAAAACGCGCGGAUCCUUGGGUGCGGGUCGGGUCGACGUGCGGAUCCCCUCACCAAAACGGCGUCGUUUUGUGUUUAAUAUAAAUAUAAAAAAAGGGCUAAAAAAACAGUUUCAUCAUUUUUGUUGAAAAACUGAGAGAAACCUCUCUCUUUUUUCCCUUUCUCAGGCUCAGAUUCCGGAGAUGGCCCGGCCUAGGCUUCUGGCGAAUCUCCGCCGUAGAGCCACCGUGUGUGGCGGCCGGAGGUCCAAAAUCGGACCUUUUCGGUCCCUUUUUGAAACUAAGAAUCCCUAGGGUACGGAUCUGGGACCAAACCCCCGAAAAAAAGAAUCGGAGACCUAAAGAACGAGGGGAAACCGCUCGUCUUCUCUCCUCCGGCGCGGCGCAGGUAAGGUUUCUUUUUCCUUUAUUUAUAUUACGUAAAAAACAUACAAAAAGAAAAAAAAGAAAAUAGAGUUUAAAAAAAAUCUAAAACAGAAAUGAGAGAAAAUCACCUCUCAAGUUUUCUUGUUUUUUAUUUCUUUUUGCUAAUAUCUGUUUCUUCUUUUUACAAAAGUUGAUGGAAGAAGAAAAAAUUACAUUUUGUUGGCUUUUUAUAGCCGACUUCUACUACUGCCUGUGUUAUUUGCUCUCUGUUUCUUUGUUUUGUUUCUUCUUUGCAGGUGACGGUGCAAGUGGUGGUGGUGACGUGACCGUGGCAGUGGCGGUGUGAUGUUGGCGGCGGCGGCAGGCCAAAGGUCAAUAGGUGUGGAGCCUAGGGUUUUAGUUUUUGAAACCCUAGGCAGAUUUUUUUAGGGGAAUUGGGCCUUAGCUAUUGGGUCGUUCGGGUUUGGGCGUUGGGUUAGGCUAGUUGGGCUUUGAGGUUGGGUUGUUUUGUAAUGUGCUUUGGUGUUUGGGUUGGUAGGUGGUGGGUAAGGUUUAUUGUUUUGGGUUCUUGGGCCUGGUUCUGUUUGGUUAGGGUAAUGGGCCAUUUGGGUCUGGGCAUAAAAUUGGGCUAUACAACAAGGUGACCCGAUUACACCUCAUCAAAAAGGAUUGGUGGCGACUCCCAUUUUCAUUUUCAUUUCUUUUUAAAUCAAAGUCAACCCGUUUUUAAAAAAAUGGUUUCGACAAUAAGAUAUAUUGAUUAGUUAUGUCAUAACUAAAGAUGAUGGAGUUGACAAAAGGAAAUUGUAGUUAACAACGAAUAAUCUACGUAGAACAUUUCAAUAUUAUGGAAAAAUGAGUAUUUACCAACCUUCUUUUAGUCAAAUUAUGCAAGCCUAAAAUUUUUAGCUUAAUUUGAGUUUGUUGACUAUGUCUAAUUCAAGUUUUAUUAUUAAGGACUAAAUUGUAACUUAAAAAAAUUAGAAUACCAAUUUAAAGAGACAAAAAUUCAAAACCCCAAAACCCACAUGGGCAUGUGGGUAAGUGACACAGGCGUGUGGAGACUGGAGCUAUCACACACGGGCGAGUGGGACAGAAAAAUAUGAAAUAAAUUAAUCCACUUAAAUUUCAAACAACCAUGCUAUACUACCAAACCAAAUAAUGCUAGAAGCUUUGAAUAGGGGUGAAUCGAAAAAAAAAUAAAAGAAUUAGAAUUAAAUUAUAAAAUUUUCAGAAGUUAUCAUGUAUUAAUUUAUUAUUUUUUAAAGGGUCUUAAUAGAAUUUUUUUUCCAUUUUGGUUUGGCCAAUACCCCUGUCUACCUCUUUCAAUUUGCUUCAACCCUAAACCUAAUAUUCGAUUUGUUGUGGAAGUUUGACGCAUAAAAAUUUCUUUUUUAGAGGUUUAAAUUAUAAAUUUUUGAAAGUUUAAAAUAAAUUUUCAUUUUUAUUAACAAAAUAUAAAAGAAAAAAAACAUGUGUAGACAAACCAAGAAACCUUUGGGAUCAUACGGGUGAUUUUGAUGAUGUUAAUGGUUAUUUUGAUGGAGAGGGUGAAAAAGAAACAAAUGAUUCAUAUAUAUAAUAUAAUUAUGAAAUUCAAGCCAUAUAUUGUAUGUUUCAUCCAUAAAAAUUUCAUGGGAGGUCCGAAGGUAAUUAAAUGACUUGUAGGCUUGCUGAAUUUCUUUGAAAGGCCCAAUGGCAAUUUAACAUUCACAAAAUAAUCUCUAAAUACUGUAAAGACAAAAUCAAAUCCACAGCAGCAUUAGAGUUGAUUAAGCUAAGCAUUGGCAAAUAUUACUUUGAUUUUGCAUGCAAUAUUAGCAAAACCCCCUCUUACAUUAGAUAAACAACAUACUCCAUGAAACAUUGAUAGCCCAAAUACAAAUUUCAUCGACAAAAAAGUCUCUUUGUUUUGUAGAACAUGAUAGUAAAAAUGUGGAGUUUCGUUCUUCUUAUUGGCCUCCUUUAGUUUUCCUUGAUCAACAACCACUAGCCAAAAACACAAUUAGAUUAGAUUAUGAAUGAUACUGACAUUAUUAAAUAUAAAACACUCUAAAUAACUCUAAAUAAAUGGAAAGCAGCAAAUUACCUGACGAGGCAAGCUAGCUCAAUUAAGACCAUUGUGUUAUACUUGUCUCUGAAUUGAAAAAUUUAGAAGGAAAUAAAGAGAAAGACUUAGAAAAUAUUUGAAAACAGAUAAAACUUAUAUGUCAUUUAAAAUAAAAAUUUUGUAUUUAAGCCGUUUAAAAUUUUUAAGAUUUUUGAAAUUUUAAAAUGAUAAAGGUAAAAUUGUACUUUGGCACACCAAAAAUGAUAAAACUUUGAUUUAAUCCUUUAGAAAUUAUAAAAAUAUAGGCUAUUAAAAUGGUGAAAUUACCUUUUUACUAUAGUAAAAAUUACAAUUUAAUUUCACUUUAAGAUUUUCUGACUUCGCCCCUAAUAAAAUCUUUGGCAAAAGAUUAAAAUAAAAUUAUACCGUAAAUGGAAAAAGAAACAAAGAAAAUCCAAUCUAACAAAGAAAAUAACUUAUGUCCAAAAGCUACCAUAAACCGUAAUUCAUGGGAAGAGAGCAAAAGUAAAAACAAAUAGUUUAUAUGAUUAAAAUUCCAGAAUAGGUUAAAAAUGUUGAAUUAAAGAUAAAAUUAAGCGUGAAUUAAUAACCACAAGUGUACUCUUUACUCACCAUCUCUGUUAAAAAUGUUGGAUGUUGUUUAGCAACCUUUGUUUGAUUUUCUUCAGCUCAACCACAACAUCUUUCAUUUCUUUUCUUUCUUCUGGUAACUCAGCUGAACAAUUCAAAGCCAACUCCAUGAUAGAUGAAAUACAAUUUGCUUUAACAACAAAGUACUCAUCCUCUCUUCUUAGUAAAUCAACAUCUGCAAUUUCUAUCGCUCCUUUAGGCAAUGAACUUUCCAUCCAAUGCCUUAUAGUCUCUUCUUCAACAAAAACAUUAUCAGUUGGCUUUCUCUUUGUGAAAGUUUCUAUAAGGACGAUCCCAUAACUAUAAACGUCAGAUUUUAUAGAAACAAGUCCUGCAGAUCCAAAUUCUGCAUUUCAAGUAUAAUUAGAACAUCAUCAGUCCUCAAUUAUUUGAUAAAUCUAUGUAUAUCCACAUACACGAGAAACAAAAAUAUAAAACGCAAAUUAGGAAAAUAAUCGUACAAAGAUAAAAAAAGAAUUCACCUGGUGCCAUAUACCCGAUUGUUGCAAGAGUCAUGGUUUGCUUCAUUACUUCACCUUCUCCCAACAAUUUGGCAACGCCAAAAUCUCCAACAUGUGCAACCAUGUCUUCAUCUAGUAAAAUAUUGCUUGGUUUUAUGUCACAAUGAAUUAUAGGGGUUGGAUGUCCAUUGUGGAGGUGUUCUAUAGCCACCGCAACAUCUAUCAUUAUGUCGACCCUUUGUAUGAUAUCAAGGAAACAAUUUUUAGAAUGUAACCAUUUCUCAAGGUUUCCAUUAGACAUGUAAUCAAGCACCAAGGCUUUGAAGUCAACACUUGAGCAGCAAGUAAUGACCUUCACAAUAUUACGAUGAACUAUAUGAAGCAUAGCAUCACAUUCAAUGUCAAAACUCCUAAAUGCUCCCUCUGUUUGCAAAUUGAAAACUUUUAUUGCAACUUCCAUUCCAUCUGAAAGCCUCCCUUUAUAUACAUAUCCAAAACUCCCUGAACCAAGCAUAUUGCUUUCCUCAAGUCCAUUAGUUGCUCGUGAAAGUUCAGCAUGUGAAAUUCUUCUCGGUGUCUUCAAAGACAACAAAUCAUCUUUAAUUGGUAGAGCUGUACUCCUUCUUUGGCAUCUUCUAUACAUAAUAGUUAAGACUAUUAGUACUACGACAAUACCAAUUGUUGGUAAACCAUACCUAAAAGCAUGCAAUAUAAUCGUUUGGGAGUUUUUGUGGAUGUCGUUUUUACAAGGUGGGACUAGCAAUCUAGGUGGACCACAAAGUGCAUAAUUCUUCAUGAAUGAUGUGCUAGAAAAGUUUGAAAAACAUCCUUCGCUGGGAAUUUCCCCUUCAAGUCUAUUGAAAGACACAUUAAAAUACUUUAGAUAUAAAAGCUUUUCCAAAGAUUUGGGAAUGACUCCAGAGAGAUUGUUAUUGCAUAAAUCCAAGAAUUCCAAACUAAUCAACCCAUCAAAUGAUUCAGGGAUAUGACCAUGUAGUAUAUUAUUUGAUAAAUCUAAUGAAACCAAAGUUAUAAGACCCCCAAAUGUGGAUAAGAUAUCGCCCGUGAGAAGAUUCCUUGAUAAAUUUAGUUUCAGUAGACUCCUCAAAUUUCCAACAUCAAUAGCAUGUGAAUUGUGAAGAUGGUUUGAUGAUAAGUCUAUUUCUAAGAUAUCUUUAAGAUUCCACAAAGUUGAGGGUAUUGUAGAACUCAAUUUGUUGGAAUCUAAGUAAAGAUAUCCCAAAGAAGUAAUAUUACCCAAACAAGAGGGUAUGGAUCCAUGCAGCUUAUUCAACCCUAAAUACAUCUUGUAUAGUCUCUCCAAAUCACAAAGGCUUUAUGAGAUGGGCCCUCCUAAUUUAUUAGAGGAAAGAUAUAGACCUUGGAGAUUUCUCAUUCCUCCUAUUGAUGCUGGAAUCAAUCCACUUAAUUUAUUAUAGUCAAGUUGUAAAAGCAAUAGGUUGGUUAAGUUACCUAUUUCCAUAGGAAUAAUGCCUUGAAGCUCACACUCAUCGGCAUAAAAGUAUUGAAGGGAUUUUGAAAGGUUCCCAAUAUAAGUAGGAAGAACGCCACUCAAUGGAUUUCCUGAAACACCUAUUUUUCUCAAAUUCCUACAAUUCGUCAAAGAAGAAAGAAAGCUCCACUCAUGAUCAGUAGCAGAUCCUGUGAUCAAAUUAUUGUCAAAGAUUUUGAGCACUUCAAGGUGUUUUAAGCUGCCAAGCAUUUUAGGGAUUGGGCCAGAGAAUAAGUUUCGUGACAACUCUAGUUUCUUAAGCAUGGAAGCAUUGGAGAUAGAGUUGGGAAUGUUUCCGCUAAGUUUAUUUCUCCACAAUAAAAGAAUCUCAAGCUUUGGAGCAUUGGUGAUUGGUGGUAAAUCACCUGUGAAAUAGCAUCUUUUAGUAUACACAUUCAUUGAAUACCAAAUUCACAAAAUAUAUAAUACAUUAAAAUAAAAACUGUAAAACUUUAAAUCAAUUAAGAAUAAAAUUUUGGCAUGGAAAAAUGUGAUGAAAUCAAUUAGAAAGUUGAGACAUAAUAAGAAGUUUUGAGUAGUAAUUACUCAUGAUUUCUAUAGACAAAACAUAUAAUACACUGAUAAUUUUUUAAAAAAUAUUGUAAAACCUGAAAUAAAAUAAAAAAUAAAAGUUUGGCAUGAGAAUGUGGCAUCUAAUCAUUCUUAAAAAUAAGACUAACAUUGAAUAAUAAUUAGUUAUGAUUUGAGAAACAAAAAUGUUAAAGAUGUAAACUGGUAUGAUUUUUAUCUAUUGGGUUAAUUAUUUAUUUUUAUUAAAUUAUAUAUAGUGUAAAAUUUAAAGAUUAUUAUUUGCUCAAAAUUUUUGUAUUUUUCGUAUAUUUGAAAUUUAAUCUUUAUAUUUUUUAUUUUCUGUGAUUUAGUCUCUCUACUUUUUGAAUUGAAAAUUUUAAGUUUAUUUAUUAACACUGUUAAAAAGUUUUUGUGUUAGUAUGGCAUUUUGAAAAAUAAAAUAAAAUUGAUAUCUAUGUUUUUAAUUAUUCCAAAUAUUGUUUUACUAUUUCAAGAUAAACUUUUUGUGUCUAUACCAAUAUCUUAAGAACUAUUGUUGCAUGUUUAAUUAUUCUAAAGAUUUGUUGAUUGAGUCUUGGUUGAAGUGCAUUAUUCUCCUAUUUAUGAAUUGGGGAGUUGAUAAAGUACUUUAUUUUAAUAUAUUUUAAAAUAUUAAAAAUUUAUUAAAAUAUUUUUUAUAAAACUUGAUUGUACCACAAUAUACAAUUUUAAUAUCAAAUUUUUAAUUGUUUUUUAAAAAUAUUAGCGAAUAUAUACUUUAUUUCAAGUUACACAAUUUUUACUAGCUUUUAACUUUUUUUAAAAUUUUUAUCGUCUUUUAUAAUUUCUAAUAAUUUUUUAUAAUUUUUUACAAUAUUUACAAUUUCUAACAAUUUUUAAUAAUUUUAUUAUUUAUUUCAAAUUUAAAAAUUAACAAAUUUUUAUUUUUUUAAAACAAUUAUAUAUUUAUAAUGUAGUUAUUUUUUUAUAAUUUUUUUUUGAAAUUUAAAGAUUUUUUUGGUUUUUUUUUUCUAGAUGAUGAUGCCAUCAUGAUGCCAUCAUAUGCCACAUGCCUUCUAAUUUGUUGUCAUAUAGACAUAUUUCUUCGAGCGUAGUUGAAUUAAAAAUACUUGAUGGAAUCUGACCUGCACACAUAGUCGAAAAUUGAAGUGAAAAGCAUACCUUCUAAGCUGUUAAACUAAAAAUACUUUAAGCAUAUUUUAUUUUCCAUCAAAUUAACUAUUUUGCCUUGAAUGAAAUAAAAUGUUCUUAUUUUUGUUAUCUAUUACAAAUCAAACUCUUUUAUGAAAAAACUAUUUUAAAUUAAAGAAACAAAGAAAAUUCAAUAUCUUCUAAGUUAUUCCACUCCAAAUAUAAUCUUCAGUGAAGAAAUCUUGAAGAUGGAAGAUGGAACCUUACCAGAUAAUUGAUUGAAUCCCAAGCUCAAGGACUCUAGAUUAGACAUGUUAACAAGUGUUUCAGGGAUUGUGCCUAUAAAGUUAUUAUUUUUCAUUUUCAGCCUUCGAACUCCCUGUAAGUUCCCAAGCCAUGAUGGAAUUUCCCCAUUAAGACUGUUGUAUUUUAAUCGAAGGAUCCUCAAACGAUGCAAUUGGCCCAAUUCUUUAGGGAGAUGGCCAUAGAAAUGGUUUCUACUCAAGUCGAGAGAGAGUAGAAAUGAAAGAUUUCCAAGGUGUGGAGGGAUACUACCCCUAAGAUUCAUGCUUUUAAGUUUCAAAGCUAUAACUCUUUUAUGGAGGAUGCCACAAGAAACACCAAUCCAAUUGCAAACAGAGGUUGAGGCCGUCCAAUUGUUUGCCAAGACAUUUUGAGGACCGGCAAUGCGAUCCUUAAACUCGAGAAGUGCAAACUGAUCGGAGUUGAGAUUCCUGACUGUCAUACCCCAGCAAAGUCCGGAACAUGGUACGAAUAAAGCUAAAAGAAGAUGAAAGCAAGUGUUGUAGUUCAUGAUAGCAAGACGGAAUAAGCCAAGAAAAUAAAAAAAAGUAGGACAAGGGAAGUUGAGUUGAUAAAAUAGUUUGGAUGAUGAAGAAAAGCCCAGAGAGCAUGCUUUAAUAUGUUUUGAAGAAAUUUCAAAAUAAAUUUCAAAAUAAAUUUCAAAAUAAAAAUUUAAAAAGGAAAGCAAAGUUUUGAAGAAAUUUCAAAAUAAAUUUCAAGUCUUCUUCUUUAAAAAAUACGUACAAAGAGCGAAUUUUCAAAAUUUCUCCUAAAUUUUCUUCACAUUACUCCACAUAAUCCAUUAAAAAAACUUAAAAAAUAUAUUUUAUUAAUUACUAUACAUUCUUUUACUUUCAGAAUAAUAAAUUGUUUAAAAUUUGCUAUUAGUCCCUGUAAUUUAAAAGUUAAAAAAAAAAUUCAAUCCUCCUACUUUUCUAAUUUAAAAAUUCUAGUUCAAUCAAUUUUAAUUUUAAAAUCUUUGUAUAAAAGGUGUUUUUUUUUUGUGACCGAUCACACUUAACCAAUAUUUAAAAAUUAUUAAAAAAUAUUUUUUUUUGAAAUUUAAAGUGAUCUAAAAACAUAUUUUUAAGUACUUUGGACAGUCUAUUGUUGAUUUCCUUAUUAUAUUAAGUGUUUGCAAUCACUCCUAAUAUAUUGUGCUUGAGUUGUGACAAAGUCGAUCAUCAAAUUGCCAUAAUGAUCUAUUGAUGCUGAAAUUAAAGUUUUUGUUAUAUUGAUAGAGCUUGUCCUUCAACGCGUACAACGUGUUUGUUAUUUUUCUCCCUUCAAAUUGUAUGAUCUUAUUCAUUAAAUGAAUUAAUGAAUUUCCCUUUUAAAAAGAUAUAUUUUUAAAAAUUAAAUACUUUAUAAAAUAUUUAAAAAUUUGUAAGCCUUAAAACAAUCAACAAAAUAUUUUUGAAAUUUUAUAAAUAUAUUUUAAAAUUAUAGUAACGCUACAAAAUAUAUAUAUUUACUAAUUAUAUGCACCUUUUUUAUUUUUUUUCCUAACAUAUCAUUAUUUUCAACACUAUCGUAAUCCUGUUUUGAUAAUUCCCUUUCCAUACAUCCUUUUUCUACAUAGAAUUUCAAAAGAAAAUGUGAAUUAAUGUAAACGUGAGAAGACUUAAUUACAUUUAUUAGUUUAUCAAUCAAAACUUAAUUAGAAUCCAUCAAUAUUUCACACAUCAAAAACCCAAACAUAAAAUUCACUUUUAAAUUAUUUGAAGAUACAUUUGUAUUAUAGGAAAUGGAUUAAAUUAGUCUUUUAUUAUUAAAUGUAUUAUUUUAAUCUUUGUAUUAGGUAUGAAUUGUAUCUCCUAGAUUGAAGCCAAAGCUAUUCUUGAAAGACUGAAAUUAAGAUUCAGAUGUGUUGAGAUGGAAAGUGGCAACACAAUGUUGAUUGAAACUAUUUAUAACGGGUUGGCUACAAUAAGUAGUGCUGCCGAAGUAAGACAGAUUCACGAUUGGUGUUCCAAAAAUUGGGAAGUCAAAUUUCGACAUAUUCAACGAAAUGCCAAUAAAGUUGUUGAUUGCAUAGCUAAGGCAAAUGGAGGCGUAAUUGAGCAGCUGGUUAUCUUGGAAGAUCCUCUGCAUUAUGUGAGAUGCUAGCUUGAAGAAGAUAUUAGACAGUCACUAGUGACUGAUGAUAAUUUUCAUUUGGACUGAUGAGCGCUUAAUUUUCUAAGCUUAUGUUCAACAAAAAAAAAUUUAAAUACGUCUAAAUUGUAAUAGAGUUAACAUUUAGUGUUUAAAAAAUAUCUUAAAAAUUAUUUUUUUCCAAUUGCAGUUCAAUUCCACAAAUAUCGACGAUGAACCCGGACAUAAAAAUUACAGAAAAAAAAACACAUCUAUUAUCAAACCAGCAAUCCAUGUCUAAACUUAAAUUAACAAAAUUUGCCACACAACGCCCGGUACACUAUUAUAUAUCUAUACUAGAUUUAUUCUAGAUGCACAUGUUUUAUUAUAUUUAAAAAUUAAAAUGUAUGGUUGACUAAGUUUUAGUUGAGUUAGUAUUGAUAUUAUUGUCAGUGUAGGAAAAUGUGAGUUUAAUCACGCUCAAAUGUGUUUUAUCCUCCAAUUCAAGGGUUAGGAAAAGGUUAUUGAUAAUUAAAUUAUACCAACUUUUAUAAUAUUAAAAAAAAGGAUUUAUAAAUAAUAUAAGGAAAAGAAAAAAAGAGAAACAUAUUCAUAUUGAUGGGCUCUUUCAAUAUUAGACUUUUUUUUCUAUCACAAGUAAAAAUAUCAAAGGUGAUAAUAAUUAAAUUAUAAAAUUUAAAUUGAGAAAAUAGGGGAUAAAAUUUAUAAGUUUUAAAGUAUAAAGAAUGAAUUUAUAACUAACAACAUAUUUUAACCACAUAAUAAAAGUAGUUAUGGAGAGGAUCAUAUAAAAUGCAAAAAUGAAAUAAUAGAAAAGAAAUAAGUGUUGGGUAUAGUGGCAAUGUAUAUUAUACUUCUAAGGGGAGAUCAAGAUUUUAGACAAGGGAAGAAUUUUAAACCUGCUUUUUUCUCUAGAACUCAACGCAAACCUCAAAUUUAUCUUUUUAAAAGAAUUUAAAAAUAUCUAUAUAAAAGGUGAUUUUUUACCGAUCACACUUAACAAAAUUAAAAAAAAAUUGAAAUUUAAAGUGAUCUAAAAACAUAUUUUAAAGUGCUUUUGACCAUCUUGUGCUGAUUUCUUUAGUAAUUUGAUUUGUUCAAUAUAGAUUUUGGUGACUUAAAACAAAAUUAAUAAAAAAAUAUUUUAUCAGAUAUCUUUUUAAUGUUUAAUAAUAAGUUAAUUUAUAAAAUAUACUUUCAUUGGACACAGGGCCUCCAAGGCGGUGAACCACUAAUCAAAUUAAUUUUGAGAUACUUAAAUUUGUUUUCAUCAAUUAAGAAAUUAAAAAAAUUUGUUGAGACCUCAUGAUUAUGUUUUAUAAUUUCAGGCUUAUCAACUAUUUUGAAAAACAACAAAACGUCUUACACCAAAAACUAAAAAAAUAAAAACGUCGACAUUAAAUUUGUUGCCAUGCAAUCAAUUUUAAGAUGGUUUUUGGAGUUAUAUAUCACCUUAGCAUUGACUUACUUUUCUACACUUAGUCUUCUCCAACAAGUUAAAUAUUUCAAUUUUAACAACAUUGACAGGUCUUUGGGGUAGGGUCGAGCAAAACUCAAUAUAGGCUGAGUUGGCUCGGCCAAGUCGAGUCGACUUGUUCAAAUUAUUUAAAUUCGUAAUUUUUAAGGUGCAGUUAGAAUUUUUUGUUUUGAGAUGCUAAGAUUAAAAUAUUUCAGUUGCUAAAACAAAAUAUUUGUAUUUAAAAAGGCAUAAAUUAAAUAAUUAAGUUUUUCGAGUUUCCAUUUAAUCAAAGGUUAAAAGGACUAAAUUGAAGCUUUUUAUUUUUAAGAAAGGCUGAAUGACAAAUUGCCCAAAGCCAUGCCCCUAGCUAUACAACUAACUUCUCUAUGAUUAGUCCUUCGUUUGCUUUGGGUGAAAUCUUCCAACUAGCCUCAUCCUUGGUUUUACUUUCCAACAAUUAGUGUAUCACGAGUUUUGUUUUCUUUAAAAAAUAUUUGUGGAUAUUAGGAGAUAAUGAAAAUUAUUUUACUAUGAAAUUUUAAUAAAACUGGAAAAUAAGUAAUUUAUUUUAAGAGGUCGCAAUUAAACGUUAGAUUUCCAAUUUUUAAAUUUUAAUUUUUUUUUGACAAUUGCAUAAUAUUUUGAGUGUUGUAGGAAUGCCAUAAUAUAACCUUCCCUAAACAUAAUCGACUCUUGAGCAUGAUGGAUCCUAGAACUUCUCCUCUAUUCUCGUACCGCAAAUUGCUUCAAGUGUGGGUUCGAACAAUCACAAAUUAAACACAAAACCAGAAAUGAUUUAUUACUUUCAAUAGCAAGGUAAUUCUCUCUCAAUAGAAACCAAUAGAAGUGUAAUUCUUAGAAAAUAAAAUUUAUUUUUUGAAAAUAUAUUCUCACUACUUUCUAGCAGAAUAACAAUAUGUGAAACUUAUGUCUUGUGUUAAUAGCUCUACCAGUACUCUCUAUUUAUAGGGAGAGAUACGAGAAUCCUGGUUGAAUUAGUAAAACACGAAUAAUAUUUAUUUCAUAGAAAACAAUAUUCCACCCUAAGUAGAUCAAGUUUGUAUGACGCAUGGAUCAAAGCUCAAUCUAGGAGGAAAAAAAUAAAGGAAUUUUCUUUGUAAAGAAAAUUUGAGAUUGUACUAUUUUCAAAGUUAUAAAUAAAAUUAUACGCCAAAUUUUUAAGUCAAUUUCAACUCCAAUUUUGUAUGCACAAAUUUCUAGUACACUUGGUGGGACAUUCUUUGACUUUUAUCUAUUCUCUCAAAAAGUUAAAGUUCAAAGUUACAUUAAACUCAAAGAAGAUAAUCAUUAGUAAACCACCUCACAAGCCUGCUCAAACUAAUCCUACAACUCAUUCCACUUCAUCAUCAAACACCAAUGUUCUUGCUUAUCCUUAUGGAAUUAAACAGUCUCAUUUUCUGCAUUUUGGGUACACACCUGGUUUUAUUUGAUGCUAAAACAGUCCCCGAGCACUCCAAAGCCUAUAAUUGAACAAAUAAUACUAAUUUAAUCUUACAUAACAUGAUCCCAAAUUGAACUUGUAUCGAGGUUUUAACCCAUAAGUGACUAAACCUUACCUUCAACCGAGUGAACAGUAAUUCCCACACAAACUAAGACUCCGAUUGAAGAUUACGAGCCAUUGAAUCCUCCCCUAAUUGGCAUAAACAAAACACUUCAAAAGAAAGUCAACAAAUGGAGACAAAUCACUUAUCUAAAACUUACCGAACGAUCACAGACAAACGUGAAGCGACACGAGGCAGAGUGGGAAAAGAAAAAUCAAGAGGAUGAAGGGUGAAAGAGAGCAGAAAUUCGGUAGCAAUGAAGAGAAAAACGGCAAGAAAGUGGAGGGAUUUUGGGGAAAGUAAAAAAAAAGAUGAAUAGAAUAUUUGAUAACUACCCCAAUCCCUUAUUUCUCUCUAUCAAACUCCCCACUAAAUCCACUACUCAAAUUUUUAGUCCAUCUCAAACUCUCCUGGACGCACGAGCAAAAAAUAAUGCCCAUGCCAAAAUUUAAACAAAAGACCUCCUUCACACCAACACUCCACUUAUCCACCAGACCAAUAGGCUCAUUCUUUUAAUUAUUUUCCAACUUUUACUUAAAAGCCUACUGACCAAAGAUAGGGCUUAUUCAUAAAAAUACCAAAUUUUGCCCAAGACCUGGCUUGAACUUGGGACCUCCCAAACACACCCAGAACACAUAACCACUAAAGCAGACAUAAAUUUUGUGUCACACAUUCACAAUACCCAAAAUUAAAAUUUUAGGGCGUUACAAAAACACAUUAAAUAAUAUCGCAUAAAAUAAUCACAGUUAGAUAACAGUUCAGAAUGUCGAUUUUACAAUUUAACCACCAAUAGUAUCACAGUAUUCACAGUUGUAAUUUCAGAAUAUCAAAUUUCCACAUGAUUCACAAUAUUCACACAUAUAUAAAUAUAUCAUAAUAGAAUUCCAGAUUUGUAUGCACAUGAUUUAGAAGAUGCCAUACAAUUUUGGUUUUUAACAGAAUAAAUCCUACCCCACGUUACAUACCAUAAUGGGAGUUCCCCUAAACUCCCUUCUCCAACACACUAGGUUAUGGAUAAACCACUAUUGGUUCACAAAUAAUAACUGUCAUUUGGCUGUGGACACACAGCAAGUCCCCACAAUUGGAUUCUAGAUUUGGUUGUGGAUUCACAGCAAAAAAAUCCUACAAAUGAAGCCUGCUUUUGCCUGUAGAUUAUACAACAUAUACCCGCAGUUGGAAUCUGUCUUUGGCUGUGGAUGCAGUGUAACACCGCAAACUCGACCUGGACAUUAUGGCUGAAUCUUGAUGAUUUACUUUAACUCGCUAGAAAACCCACGAAUUUACUUUAAAAUCAUGUGGUUAAACUAGUGUUCACUUUGAUAAAUUGUUUUCCAGUUUUAGAGAAAUUUCUUGUUAAAACUGUUACUUUAUUACAAUAAAACAUUAAAGUAAUUGUAUCAUUUUGUAGUGGAAUCUACUAAGCUAUAAGGUUUUGAAAAUCGUGAUUUAGUUUGCAACAAAUCAUUUUGCAAAUAGAAAUUUAAUACUACUUAAUUUGGAAAAUCACGCUAAAACGAAAGCAAAGUCCAAAAUAAUUUACGGUUUGAAAUUCUAAAAAGCCCAAAUUAGACAUAAAGUCUAUUUAAACCAAUUUAUUGAAAGUGUAACACCCUAAACCCGGCCUAUAUGUUAUGGCCAAAUCUAGAUGUGUUACGAAAAAAAGUUUAUAAAAUGACUUCCUUGUUAUUGGCAAACCAUCGUAACCAUUAUUACUUAGUAUAUCUGAUUUGUUUGGAAAACUUAUUGAUAUACUUAUUUGAUUUAAAAUCGUUGCUCGCUUAUGCCUUUUUAUUAAACCAAAUAUUUUGCAGCGGAGUUUCUUUACAACAUCAUAUUUUGGAAAAUCAAAUUGUUUCUUGAAAAUCGUUAUUUUAGAAAAGUUUUCAUUUUCAGAAAAAUUAUUUUAUCAGUUGUUAUGCUGAGAAAACAAAAUAAAAUCCAAAACCAAAAAUAAUCGCAAAAAGUCUAGAGAGUCCCAAAAUGACAAUACUCUUAAAACUAGACAAGCUUAAACUAAUUUUAAAAGAAUGAAAUUUUACAGAAAUGUGGACACCACUGAGCUUCCGUCGCACCGACCCACCUAAAUCUGAGGGUUACUUGAACAGAACAAACAAACAGAGAGUGAGUUUUGAAACUUAGUGUCUAACGCAUAUAUAAACAAAAAUUCAGAAUCAAUCUCAUGCAGAACAGAUACAAGUGUAAACCUUUUAUAAAAUUAGAAUUGUACAGAUACAAAUAUGCAACAUCCUACCCUCAUCCUCUACACACCAACUCCGACCAUCCUAUCACACCACGUGGGGUAUAAAAUACCCAUCCAGCCCUACACACCGUAUAGUGUUUAUAUGACACUUUUUGGAAUAAUCGCAGCAGAGUUGCCAGUAUAUAUGCGAGAUAUCACCUCACAUAGAACACUUCCUCCUCAUAAUACAAAUCCCGCCUCAUAGCUAGAUACAGACAAAAUAUGAUGUAAAAUAAAUUAACAGAUACUAGAGUUAACAUAUCACGCGUGAGCGUAUAAUAGAUAUUACACAUGCUUAUGCAUAACAAAAUAGAUCAUACAUAUUGUAUUCCAUAAUACUCAUAUAAAUGUUAUUUACGUCAAUCUCAAUCUAACAGAGUAGCAGAUUUCAUGCUUUAACGCUUAUACCACACAUAUAGACCCUAUAGAAGGCCCACAGUCGAUCGAGACAACAUGUAUGUCGCUAGGGAAAAAAUUUGUAAUUUGGGCCCAUAUACAUGUAUGAGCCCACACACCCAAAAUGGCCUUGCCCAUGUGGCUCACCAACCUAGCACUCAGCCCAUACGGUCCAAAAUGGCCUAGGUCGUGUGUCACACACAGCCGCAUGUUGCACACAGCCUACCACAUAGCCAGUCACAAAACUGUUUGGAGUUGAAAAGCCCAAUUUUUGGCUUUCGUCAAUCAUCAUUUUCUUACGUUUUCAUUACACACCUGGUUUGAUUCUGACGCAAAAGCAACCCUAUGUCCACCGAAACCUAAAAAUAGCAUUCCAACGCCCAAUUUCAGUGAACAUUUACAAAACUCAAACAAAAACUAUCCAAAAACAUAGCCUCACAAUAGCAUCCAACGCACUCGCACACUUAUCGUCAACAAAUAGGAAACACCCAACACUCAAUUCGUUGGCGGAGCACCAAUUAUGAUAAUGCAAAAAUUUUAUGGAUUCUCAACACUAUCGAUCCGAAUGUAAGAUUGAUGCUUUCCAAUUAUGAUAAUGCGAAAAUUUUGUGGGAUGGUUUACAUGAAUUUUUUUUGUUGUCAACGAUCAACGUAUUCAAUAAUUAAAAUAAAAUAUUAGUCGUUUUUAGAAAACCAAGACUAUGAGUGUUGUAGUUUAUUUCAGUAAAUUAAAGGUUUUGUGGGAUGAACUAGAUAAUCAUGAACCAUUGAUUUGUUGCAAGUGUGGACAAUGUUUAUGUAACUUAGGGAAGGCGCAUGAACAAUGUCGUGAGCAUGAUUGACUUCAUCAAUUACUUCUUGCUCUCUAUUGUAAUUGUUAUGCUCAAACUAGGUUUACACUGUUUUACCAAGAUCCUUUGCCUUCCUUAAAUCAGGCAUUCCAACAAAUUACUUAGGAGGAACAUGUACGUGGAAUUACACUGAUUAAGGAAGAGAAGUCUGAUAUUUUAGGCUUUGCUAUGCGUACAGAGGGUCAUAACAAAGGCCGAGCUAAUUGUAUUGAUAAGUCAACCUUGUUGUGCACUCAUUGCCAUCGCAAAAGGCAUGAGAUGGCUACCCAUUUUGAAUUACAUAGCCACUUGGAUUGGCGGCUUAAGAAGUAUGGGAAGCCAGAGAAGAAAAGUGAUGAUCGUGGUGGUAAGACAAGUGCCACAUCUUCCACGUAAGUGUUUUAUUUCAAAGGAUCACAAUUAAACAUUAGAUUUCUCAUUUUUAAUUUUUUUAUUUUUUUAACAGCUACGUAAUUAACGAGUACCAAUUUUGGGUGUUGUAGGGGUUCUAUAACUUUCCCUAUAUGUAAUCGACUCUUGCACCCACUUUUUUUUCUCUAGAAUUCAAUGCAAACCUUAGAUUUAUCUUUUUAAAAGAAUUUUAAAAUCUCUUUAUAAAAGACGAUUUUUUUAGGUGACCAAUCACACUUAAGAAAAACAAAUCGGUGGCAACUCCUUUCUAAUAAAUGUAAAAAACUUUUUAAACAAAAUAAGGUUGAAAUAAUCUAGUUGUCGUUAUACUUUGAUAAAAUUUUAGAUUUAGUCCUUAUACUUAAAAGGUUAAAAAUUAAGUCUUGUUUUUAUUUAAAAAUCUUAGUCCUAUCGUUAAUAUUGUUUUUUUUUGUCAAAAUUUGUCAAGUUGACAUAUUAAUUAGGUUUCUCUUAUAUAUCGUGGUAUAUGACUAACACAAAAUAAACAAGUUGACAAAAUCUACAAAAAAUAUCAAAGAUGAUAAUAGUUUAAUUAAAAUUUUUAAAUUAAAAAAGUAAGGGAUUAAAUUUAUAACUUUUAAAGUACAAUGAAUGAAAUUAUUGAAAUACAAGAACUAACAACAUAUUUUAAAAUAUUACUAGUAAAUUAUAUAUCUACAACAAGAAUUGUAACCUCUUAUAUUAUAUUCUUGUAUCUAUUUUUGCAUCUUUCAUUAUAAUAUGAUUUAUUAAUUUUAAUAUUUUUAUAGAAUAAUAUGCUUUAAAUAGUUUUUUGUAUAAUUUAUAAAAAUUAUAAUAAACUUACAAAAUAAUUUAAUGAUAUUUAAUUAUUAACCAAAAAAAAUGAUAUCAUAUAUAUUAUGUAUAUAUUAAGAUUCCGAAUCAUUAAUUAUAUAUCUACGCAUUAUAAUAAAUUCAUCUUUCAAAAUUUUCCUUAUAAUUAAAGCAUAAAUUAUAUUUAUAAUAUUAUAAAUAUAUUUUAUCAUAAAUAUUCUUUCAAAUAUUUUUUAAUGUUUAAUAAUAAGUUAAUUUAUAAAAUAUUUUUUCAAUAAAUUAAUGUGAUGAGAUCGUUAGGUGCUUGGAUUUGGUGAAGGGGGAUGAAGAGAAAAGGGAUGGAAGUGAAUAAAAAUGUUGAGAAAUCGAAAGGGUUAGCGAGGGAAGCCGCCAUGAAAGGUGGUUCAAUGGAUAUGAACCAUCAAGCUUUUGUGGAUGAUGUUACUCAAGGUUGUUGCAAGUAAAUUAAAAAAUAUUUUUUUAAAUUAUUUUUUUGUUAAAAAACAUUUUUUAUUUUUUAUGUGGCAUGCCACAUUAUCAUAGUAUCAUGUGACAACUUCUGGUGAUUUCUGUCUGUAACAUUAGUCAAAUCAACAGUUAAAUCGUUCAACUCACAGUUUUUGUUAAAUGAAGAGGUCAAUUGGUUUUUUUGGAAUCAUUGAGUACUCAAUUGGUGCACUUUUAUCAUAAAGGCUAAAUUAAUUUUUUUAAUUUGUUAUUGUUGAGGGCUAUAACAAUAAAAAAAUUAAUGUAAAAUGAAAAAAAUGUUAGAGCUAAAUUUGUCAUUAUAACUAAAAUGUAAAACCAAAAUUUUUUGAAAAAUGAAAAAAAUGGAAAAUCACAAAUUCUAUCACUUAUGUUUGCUUAAAAUUAUAGUUUUGGUCACCAAUCUUUUGAAGUAAAUAUAUGGUCACCAAUAACUCACCUUAAAGUUAUACCCCUACGCAAGAAAGGAUUAAAUGACAUUGGAAUACCAUAAAACUUGUAUCUUUUUUUAUUCAUCUAAUACCAUUUUAACAUUUUCAUUUUAAAAAAUUGACAUAUCAUUUUGAAUUUGAUCUUUUUCAUGGUAUCUCAAAUUCAUUUAAUCUUUCCCUCUCUAAAAAAGCUAAUGUAACACAUUAAUGACAUCAUUUCAAACAAAGUUUUAGGUCAAAUUAUUCAUCUAGUCCUUGUAAUUGUUUUUAUAGGUGAAUUUCAUUAUUAUUCUUUUAUUUUCUUAGGCUUAAAUACACAUUUACCCCUAAUUUUAUCCCAUUCUCCUUAAUUGGUAUUUAUGGUUUAGAAAAUUUUAUAAAUAUAUUAUUUUUUAAGAAAUUAUAAGAAGAUUACAAAAAUUCCAAAAUAAUAUAAAAAAGCCAAGGAAAACCUAGAAAUUCAAAAAAAAAAAAAAAACGUCGACAUUGAAUUUGCUGUUUCACAUUCAAUUUUUGGAGAAGUAGAAUUUUCUAACUUAUUUUCCAUCAACUUGACUUCAAUUUUCAAUCACAAUCAAUUGCAUUCAAGAGCACCACAUCUGUUUGGAUGAAACAAACCUCUCAAUUUUAAGAUAAACGGGUCUUUAGGGUUAUAAAUUGAGGGCCUUUUCCACAAUUGCGGGUGAUUCGUUGAUAAUAACCUCAACAUUUCUGUAUCACAUUUCAAUUUUUAAUUUUUAGAGAGAUGAUUGGGUUACAAGACUGGUUUGAAGUGAAGAUAUUUCAAAAGAAGAUCGAAUACUCUACCAAUAGUCAUAAUUUAAAAUUCAGGUUAUGUUUCAUUUCAGCUAAGUUAAAUGUUAAGAUUGAGGUUAAACCUUUUAGAGGUUGCUCACAAAAGGAUCAAACCUUUAUAAAAUUGCCUAAAUGAAGGUUAAACCUUUUAAAAUAGACAAAUAAGGGCCUAACCUUUUAAAAGGUGUUCAAAUAAGGGUUUCUCAAACGUUGUAUAUCAGGUUAUGUGUUUUACUCUAAACACAUCGACAUUUACCUAUUUUUUCUAUAAAUUUGGUUGAAGUGCAUGAAAAAUCCUUAUUUGAGCACUUUUGUAAAGGUUAAUCUCUUAUUUGACCAUUUUGAAAGGUUUGAUCCUUAUAUAAGUAACCUCUAAAAGAUUGAGCACUAAUUUGACAAGUUUGAGAAAUAUCUAAAUUUGUUUUCAUGAAUCAAGAAAUUAAAAAAGAAAUGUUGAGAAAUAUUUUAGAGAUUCUUAGCUUUGACAAGUUCCCUCCACCAUCUCCCUGCCUCCAGUCCCACCUCUUCUCUUAUGCUCCUUCCAGCUUCUUGCCUUUUGUGUGUUGAAAAUUCAAAGGAACAAAAUAUCAACCUACAUCAUAAGGCACGAUCGCCAGAACUUUACUUUCUAGCCUGUCGAUCCGAUCCAAUCCAAUGAAAGAAGAACAAGGAGUCUUAAGAUCUGUCAACUUUAUUUCAUUUUCAUUUUCUUUGUCAUUUUCUAUGUUUCAUGUCGAAUACAAUGAAAGAAGAACAUAGAAAAAUGUGGCCUAUUUAUUUCCCAAUCAUCAUGAAAUUACUUGCCAUUGACUUAGAAUUUUCUCACCAAUUUUCAAGCAAUCUGACAUGAUUUCUCAAUCACAAUUAAUUGAAUUCAAGAUCUUUUUAGAUGACACAAACAUUUCAAUUUUAACACAAACCAAUAUUUCGGUUAUACUUCAGUGCUUGACAAGCACUUUCACAUUUGUGGGAUAAGAACUCUUAACAUUUUAGGAUCACAUUUAAUUCAAUUGCAUUUAAGACCUCAUGGUUUUAUUCUAUAAUUUCAGUCUUAUCAGCCUUUUCGGAAACAAUAAAACGUCGACAUUAAAUUUGUUGUUGAUGCAUUCAAUUUUUUGAGGGGUCUUUGGAGUUAUAUGUGACUUUAGCAUUGACUGACUUUUUUAUAAUUUAUCUUUUAUAAUAAGGUAAAUAUAUUAAUUUUAAUAACAUCGACAUGUUUUUUAGUAGGGUCGAGCAAAACCCAAUUAAAAUCGAUGAUAUUGGCUUAGUUGACUCGGUCAAGUCCAUUAGAUUGAUAAAAUCAUUUUUAAAAUCAGUUAUAAUGGAUAAAGGUAAUUAAUUAUCGAGUAAUGAAAUACAUAAUCAAAUCAAUUGAUUUUGUUAGAAACUAAAAGAAAAAGGGCUAAGCUGAAAAUUGAUUGCCCUUUAUUAAAAUUAACGAAUCUGUCUUUUACGUAUUAGAUAAUAUGAACAUCGCAUAUAUAAUAAGAAAAAUUACGUAUGAUUAUUUAUUAUCAUAAAAGGUUAGUUUAAAUUUAAAGUAAUCUAAUAUGUUUAUUGAACUUCAACUAUUAAAUAAAGUAUAAGCUAAAUAAGUAUAAAUAUUCUAGAAACCAUUUCUAACUGAUGAUAGGCUAAUUCGAUUAAUUUAUAAAAACUAGAUAGUAGGGUUAUAGUCCUCAAACUACACCUAAUUUAAUAACAUUUAUAUUUUUUUUAGCCUUAAACAUUUAUAGUUUUUGUUAAUUUGGUCCUUACUCUUUAAAAUUACAUAAAAAUUGCAAAAAAAUUAAAAAUUAAUUUUUAUCAUGAUUUUAAUAACAUUUAUAUUUUUUUUGUGGUUUGGUAACUUAUCAACUUGACUCUUACUUGUAACCAACUUUUCUAACCUUUUUCGUACCCUUAACCUAAGUCCCGUUACAAUUUCUAAAGACCUCUUGAUUGGUGUAUCAUCUCGAUUUGUUUUUAUAGUGGUGGAGAUUUGUUUUUUGUAGUGGCAUGAUUGCCAGAACUUUACUUUCUAUCCUGUCGAUCCGAUCCAAUGAAAGAAUAACAAAGAGUCUUAAGAUCUGUCAACUUUAUUUCAUUUUCAUUUUCUUUGUCAUUUUCUAUGUUUCUUGUCACAUACAAUGAAAGAAGAACAUAGAAAAAUGUUGCCUAUUUAUUUCCCAAUCAUCAUUCUAACAGGCCGAAUUAGCCCAGGCCCAAACAUUAAUAAAAUGUCCAGAUUACAAAAUAACCAACCAAAAAUUAAAAGCCCAAAAUAAUAAAAUAAAACCCAUUACAUUAACCCAAAACUCCAGCCCAAUUACAUUGAAGCCCAAAAAAAUAGUUUUUAGAAACCCCUAGGGUUUCUGGAACAAUCCGCGCCGCUCCUCCAUCCGCUUCUCCACGCACGCUGCACCUUUCCACGUGCGCCUCCAGCUGGCAGUGUACCUCCAAUGCAACAAACAAAGCAACAAGCAGCAAAAGAAAUGGAAAAACAACAAAAAAAAAAAGAAAGGAGCAACAAUGUAUAACAGAUUGAUAACAAAUAAUAGAAAAAAUAGCAGUAAAUAGGAAAAAAAAUUAAAAAAUAAUGAGGGUAAUUUCAUUUUUUUCUCUGUUUUGGCUAUAAAGAGAGCCGGUCAAAAUCUCUAAAGGGGGAUUUAGAAAUCAAUCAGAAAACAAGUAUUUUGUACCAACAAUUAGAGAAAAAAAAUACAAAAAUAGGGAUUGAAGGUUUUUUUUUCUUUCGUUUCGAUUUAUUUUAAAAUAGCAUAGAAAAUAAAAAGAAGGCUUACCUUGCGACGCCUUCAGAUCCUCUCGAAAAGGGGCUAAAAGGCCCUAUGUGGCACAGAUUUGACCACUGUUCACGGUGGAACCGCAGCGGAGGCGCAGAGGAUUGGCAUCAAUUUAGGCAGGGUUUGAAACCCUAGCAGAGAAAAAAUUAGGGUUGAUAGAUUUUUUUUAAAAAAAUGGCAAAAUGUUGUUUUAAAAAAUUUUGUUUUAAAAAAAAUUGUUGCUUUUAUAAAGGGUGUAAAACGGCGUCGUUUAGGGCAUGUUUCGAUGGCCCCAAAACGGCGCCUUAUAAGGCAACCCCCGACGACCCGACCUGCUCCAUGGGGGAUCCGCGUGGUUUUUGUUAAAUGGGUUAUGUCUAACCCUGGCCCUUCUACUUUUUAUACUUGUUUUAAUUUGAUCCUCUUUUUAUUUAUUUUUAUUUCUUUAAAUUAAGCCUGAUAAUUUUUUUCCAUUACAUUUUAAUCCUUAAUGAAACGGCGCGUUUUAGAGGAGAAGGGAAAAUUACCCUUCUAGUCCCUUCUUGUUAUUCGAGUGUUCAGAAGGGUCCUUUUUUGUUUAUUUUUUAUUUGCCCCAAAAUUUUGUUUUAAAGCUUAAUUUAGUCCUAUUUUGUUAUUUUAGCUAUUUUAUUAUUAGAUUAAUUAAUUUAAUAUUAUUAUUACUGCUAUUAUUUUACCCCUAUUAUUUAUAUAUUUAUUAUUAUAACUAUAUCAUUAAAUCAAUUAGUUUUUACAUUAUUAUUUCCAUUCUGUUUUUUAUUUACUUACUUAAAUACUUUAAAUGCAUUUAUUUUAUUUCUUAUUUUUUUAUGAAAUUUCAAAACUUUAGACUAUUUUUUUGUUACUAUAACCCUAAUUUCAUUCAUUUUAUAAUAGUUUUUUUUUAAAAUAUUUCUUAGAUUAAUUCCCUCGAUGUUAUUUUGUAUAUUUAUUUAUCUUUUUAAAUUUUCGAUAUUGUCUUAUUGUAUUAUUGUUGUUACUAUCAUUAUUCAUUAUUAUUGUUGAUUUUAUUCUUCUUUGAUUAAUGUUUAUGUUAGAGUAAUAGGUGUUAUGUGAUCAUUGUUAUUAUAUGUUAUAAUUUGUUGACACUCGUAUUGUAGUCAUUCGUCAGCUUAAUAUUUUGAGUAACAUUUUAAAUAUUACAUUAAUUUUGACCCAAAUGCAUAAUUUUUUAAUAAGUAAUAUUUCGUAUUGUGGAAUUUGAGAGAUCAUUCCCUAACUUACGGGGUCUCGAUUUUUUUGAUAAAUCUGAAUAUAAGAACUAUUUUAAAAAAAUACGUUUUAAAAUUAUCUCGGGAAUUUAAAAAGAAGCGUGUUCUAACUUACGGAAUAUGAUCUUUUUUUAAAAAUCGAGAUAAUCAAAUAUCUUUCAAAUAAAUAAACUUUUCGUGUUUAUUCUCGUUUUAGGAUUUAAGAUAUUGUGUCCUAACUCACGGGACACAAUUCUUUUUCUCGAUUAACGUGAAAUACGCCCUUUUUAAUUUUAUCUUUUUAAGUGAUUUUAACAAAAGGAUUGUAUUUUAAAUCUCUUCAAAAUUUUCAAUUUUUCGACAUUGAGACAUUAACUAAUCAAUUAGGUACCAAUUUUGGGCGUUACAAGGGUGUUAACCCUUCCUUGUACAUAACCGACUCCCGAACCUAUUUUUCUGAAUAUUAUAGGCCAAAAUUGUUUUAAUAAAUUAAACCCUUAAGAGGUGACUCGAUCACAGCUCAUAAAAAUUAUCGGUGGCGACCCUUGUUUUAAAAAAGGUGGUUUCAACAGCUUGGCGACUCCGCUGGGGACAAAAAUAAGAGUCAAGCCGCGAGUUGAUUAUUUCUUAUCUUUUUGUCAGAAAUUGUGAAUUCGAUUUAAAUUUAUGAUCUUUUCAUUGCAUUUUAUGGUCUGCAUCAUUUUUAUAUGCUUGCUUUACUACUUCGAGUCUUUUAAUCUUCGCAUAUUGUAUUGCAUAACCGUUCGGUUAUACCCUUUUAAGCGGGAGUGAGAAAUUAUUCUUUCGUGAGGUUUUCACCUUCGUAUAGGAUAGUGGAUUACUUUCAGGAUACAUCCAUACCUAUGUCUUCGUGAGAUUCUCAUCUCCGUAUAGUCAUAGGGAAAUGUAUUCCCCUGAACUGAACUCAGUCCGUAUGAGCCUAUAAUGGGUGAGGAUUGAGGAAUCUGCUGGUUCAGGUACCCUUUCUUUAGAACUAAACCGCAUGUAGUGAGCCCUAAGAGCAUACCCUAGGUAGAACCACUCCAAACCCCUAGUGGUCACCCAAAUAGGUGCUCUAUUUAUUUUUGCUUGCUUGUUUUUGCCUUGUACUAACCUAUUUGUUAUGGUUAUGAGUGCAUUGCAUUUUUAUCAUAAAAAAGAUGUGUUGAUUCACGUUCAGUUGCUAAAUAGAGAGCUUGUCAUGGAAAACGAAUUUCUUGAUAAAGUGGAAGACAAUGCGGUUGUCCGGAUAUGGUCCAAGAAAAUGUGAAGAAAGAAGGGUGAUAGUCUAAUGGAGGACUACACGACCUUGCUUUGUUGCCUGAUGAUUCAAGUUGACAAAGAUUAUUCGAGAGUCUUCAAUGUCCCGACCUUUUUAAAGAAGCUAACGAGCGUCACGAGGAUGAGCGAGUAAUGAGUUGCGGCCCGGAUCAAGCAAAAAAAAGAUAGAGGAGACACCCUUUUUGAAGAGUUCACGAGAUUUAUCUUAACAUCUAGACGAAGAAAAAGAUCAAUCUCUUUGCCUAGAGUAUGAGGGCAAAGCCGUAUAUAUCCGCUUUAUGUAAAUAAAUUUGUUUUCUAGUAAAGUUUUUCUAAUAGGAUUGAAUCAGAAUCAACGUCUCUUUUUGCAUUCAUUCCAUUCAUCUGCAUUGCAUUUCAUUGCAUCUAGAAUUUCACAAAAGGACCCUAAUUAAUCGAAAUUGUUAUAGCUACCUUGAAAAACUAACGAAAAUUUACCAAUUAAAUAUUCCUAUGGUACCCAUUGCAAAACUAAAGUAAUGGAUCAAAUAUUAGAAAGAUUAGAACAAAUGCUGAAGGAUAAACAUAACUGCUUUGGCUUAGGGUACAAGCCAGAUACAAGACAAAGAAGAAAUAGGAAAGGAGAACACGUUUGAGCGGGGAUGAGGUCAAAUGGGAGGGAUUAUUCAUCCCAGGCGAAGAAUGCCAAGAGAAGAAAAUAUUGAAAACAUGUUGGGAAACGUUCACAUCAAUGCCAUAUACGAAGAAGCAAUUGAAGGAGUGACCUUGUUAGAUAUCCGCCCUUAUGAACCUAAGAGUGUGCUAAACAAUUGGACUGCAGAAGAAAUUCUUGUAGUGUUUAGAGCUUACUCAUAGUAAUGUUCAGAACACACUUGUUGCUUUUAGCCUAGAAGUGAUAAGAAUCCCUCUGUGAAAUAGGCUCAUGUAUAAACAUCAUUAUUUUAAUGAAGUACAUCUUUGCAUUCAUUUUGAGCAAAUAUUCUUUUAUUCUUUUCAUACGAGUAAUUAUUUUGGAUUCUUUAAUUCUUUUGGGAUUUUCUUCCAAAAUCAUUCUUUUAUUACAUCCAUAAUCAUACUGUACAAAUAAUGUAAUAGCCUGAAUUUUCAGUGGUGUCGGAAUGGUGAUUCAAGAUCACUAAGUCUGACAAAUGAGUAGAAAAUAUUAUUAAUUUAGUAAGAAUAAGUAAAUGUGAAGUUAGGAAAAUUUUUGAAAUAGUGAAUAGUGUACUAGGAAUAAAUAUUAAAAUAAUUAAAAUAAAAAAUGAGGUAUCGAGACCUCGAAGAUUUUAAACCAAGCCAUAAGUACUUUUAGAAGUAUUUUUAGAGUGUCAUUGAGUUGGUAUUAAAGUUUCGUUAGAAAAUUUUAACGCUCGGAUAGUUAAUUAACCAAAAAGGACUAAAUUGAAAAUAGUGUAAAAUUUGUUAAAUUGUGAUUAAAUAGCUUAAGUGAUUAAAAAGGAGGGAUUUAAAAGGCAAUUAGGCCCAAAUUAUAUGGGCUGGACGGUUGGGUAAGAAAAAUCAGCAGAAUGUAAGGAGAAACAGGGGCAAAAUUGGAAACUUAACAAAUUAAACAUAUAAAACAAAGACAAAAGUGAAAAAUCUAGAGAUCUGCUCACAAUUUAUCAGCAAAAAUGCCAUAGGAGGUCUGAAAGAAGCUGGUUUUUCAUAUAUUUGAAUCAUGUAAGUUUAAUUCUUGAUUAUUUCUUCUAAUUUUUGUGAUUUUGAUACUUUUACAAUUAGGUCCAACUAAUUAUUUCAUUAGUUUUUGAUUUCAUGGCUGAUUUUGAAAGUUACCAUUGAUGAGUGUUGGAUUUUUAUGAUGAAUAAACAUGGAAUUAAAGCUUUAAUUUUGUUAUAUGAUGAUUUUAUUAAGUAAUUUUGAUAGAAAUUGAUUUUUGGGACCUAAUUGUGAAAAAGUUUGGAAUUAGGGUUUGGUGUUGCGGUUUUGAAUAUGAAAGUCUAUGUAGUAGUCUAAAAUAGUUGGAAAAGGUGUUAAUUGAGAAAAAUUAGAUCAAUUGAGGGGUUAAUUGAGUAGGACCAAAUUGUAAAAACUGUAAAGUUUGAGGUAAAAGUGUAAUUUCGAAAAUUUAAGGGCAUAAAUUGUGAAGUGAAUUAGAAUAGAAUUAUAUGCUGAUGAAUGAAUAAAUUUGUAUUUUAGAUCGAGAACCCGAAGCAAGCCGAGGAAAAGAAAAAGUAGUUGAUUAGUCCCUGAACUUUUACAAAUUCUGCAAAUCGACCCAGGUAAGUUCAUAUGGCUGAAAUUUAAUGAUUAAAUGUUAAUUUCAUGAAUUAUGUAAUGUAUGAUGAAAUGUAUUUAGUGUUGAAAUGAGAGUAAAAUAAAAAUGCGAAAAUCGAAUAAAUGAUCAAAUUAAGCGGAACGCCGGAUUUGAGUACUUCUGAUCAAGAGACAAAGUGAUAAGUGGUAGCUUUAGCUACACUUAUCUGAUCAAGUGAAAAAGUGAUAAGUGCUACACUUAUCUGAUCAAGAGACAAAGUGAUAAGUGGUAGCUUUAGCUCACUUAUCUGAUCAAGUGAAAAAGUGAUAAGUGCUAUACUUAUCUGAUCAAGUGACAAAGUGAUAAGUGGUAGCUUAGCUACACUUAUCUGAUCAGGGCCAAAUGAUAAGUGAUCAUACGUAAGACCAUAGUUAUACUAUGGCCAAGUGAAAGUGAAGUACUCAAUUUUCCGUAACCGUUCCUUAAUUUUGAUCAAGGAUGGUAAGUGACAAAUAGGCCCAAAGAAAUUAUGGUAAAAGAAUAAGUAGUAGUGAGUUUAUACCAAGGAACUCUCCAAAGAUUGUGGUUGACAAGUAAACUUAGUAAUGGUGUAUAUUGUAUAAGUGUACAAAUGUUUGGUAAGAUUUAUGUUUGUGCCUAUGAACUUACUAAGCUUUUCUAUAAGCUUACAUGUGUGUGUUUAUUGUUUUUCUAGAUUAACGUAUUUAUACAUUCGGAGGAUCGGAUCUACUUCGAGAAUCACACUAUCCAGAUAUACUCCGGUAGAUUUUGUUAAACAACUUUUUGGAUUUAUAUGGCAUGUACAUAGAAUUGAAGUAAAAAGUAAUAGAAUGAAUGACUGAGUAUGCAAAGUAAAUUUGAAUGUGAUGGUUGUGUUAGAUAUUGAAAAAUACAUGUUUUUAGUUUGAAAUGGUUGAUUGGCUGAACUUCGUUAGUAUUCAAGUGAAGUAGUUGAAAUACUGGAAUUGGUUGUGAUUUGAAAUUUGCAGGGAAGGUUAGAUAAAUAUAAAGGGGUUAUAUUGAUUUUUUUUAAAAAUUUCAAUGGAAUAAUUUUUGGACAGCAGCAUUGAUGUAACUUUUAAAAAUCACCAAAAAUAGUGGAAAUAGAAUUAGAAGUUGAAUGAGAUAUGAAAUUAAAUCUGAAUGAGUCUAAUUUCACAUGAAAGAAGUAGAAUAAGAAAAAGAGUUAUAUAUUUUUAGAUAUUUGAAUUUUAGUGAAACAGGGCAAGAAUGUUUUUGAAGUCCCCUGUUCUGACUUUAGAAAUUUAGUAAAAAUUGUACAAAAGGAAUUAUGAAUUAUAAUUUAUAUGUUUAAAUUCCGUAAUGAGUAUAUUUUAAGUAGAAAUAAUUGGAACCACCAUAUGAAGUCUUUGCAAUGAGAUAAUUGAAUUUUAGCGACAAGAGGUCAGGAUAGUCAAUUAGUGAAAUAGGGGAGACUUCAACUAAUAAACUGUAUUAAUUUGCUAAACCAAAAAUUCUGAAAAAUUUAUGGUGAAUAUACAUAUGAGUCUAGUUUGAGGGAAAAUUUACGGAUCUAAAUUUUUAGUUUCGUAUCUUGAGUUAUAAUUAUUUUAGUGACUACUGCGCAUGUGGACAGCUUUGUUGUGAAUGGUGAAAUUAAUUUUUAAAGUAAAUUUUUAUGCCCCGAACUUUUAAGUUCAGUCAAGUAACGCCUUAUGCUCGACUCCGGCAACCGUCUUGGGUAAGGGGUGUUAUAAAUAAUUAUUCUUAAAUUCAUACAUUCUUUGUAUAUUAUUUUGUACCUACAAUAGGUCCCUAGAUAUUAACAACAUGAGUGACGUUGCUACAGACUCAGAAUUUCCUUUUAAACAAGACAUGUGUUUAGAGGGAUCCCAUGGCUUUGAAGAUGACGUAGACUGUGGCUUAUCUCUGAAUUUGUUAAGGAUGGUAAAACAAGAGGAGAAGCAAAUCCUACCUCACAAGGAAUCAAUGGAAAUUGUGAGCUCAGAAGGGGGAAAAGAGGUGAAGAUUGAGACUAACAUUGCCACAAAGACAAAGCAUGACCUCGUUGAGUUACUCCAAGAAUUUAAAGAUGUCUUCGCAUGGUCAUACCAGGAUACUCCCGGGUUAAGUACUGGCAUUGUAGUACACUACCUUCUUAUAAAAGAAGAUUGCAAGCCAGUUUAGCAGAAACUCUGAAGGAUGAUGCCUGAUAUUGUGCUAAAAAUAAAAGAAGAAGUUAAAAAGCAAUUUGAUGUUGGGUUCUUACAAGUGGUUAAAUAUUCAGAAUGAGUAGCCAACAUCGUCUCAGUCUCUAAAAAAGAUGGGAAAGUACGAAUGUGCAUAGAUUACAGAGACAUGAACAAGGCCAGCCAAAAAGAAAAUUUCCCAUUGCCUCACAUUGACACUUUGGUGGAUAAUACAGUAGGCUACUCACUGUUUUCCUUCAUGGACGACUUCUCUGGAUACAACCAGAUAAAGAUGCAUCCCAAAAACAUGGGAAAGACUACAUUCGUGACCCUAUGGGGAAUGUUUUGCUAUAAAAUGAUGUCAUUCGGAUUAAAGAAUGUGGGAGCGACGUAUCAAAGGGAAUGGUAACCUUGUUUCAUGACAUGAUGUACAAGGAAAUCGAGGUUUAUGUUGGCGAUAUGAUUGCAAAAUCCAGAACAGAAGAGGAACAUGUGUAGGCCCUAAGAAAAUUAUUCUUAAGACUGAGAAAGUUCCAGCUCAAGCUUUCCAACGAAAUGCACAUUCAGAGCUAGGUUAGGAAAGCUGUUAGGCUUCACAGUUAGUGAAAAAGGAAUCGAGAUCAACCCAGAUAAAGUCAAGGCGAUACGAGAUUUACCUCUACCAUGCACUCAGAAGGAAGCUCGAGGUUUCCUAGGAAGACUGAAUUACAUUGCUCGAUACAUUUCACAACUAACCGAAAAAUGUGACACCAUAUUAAAAUAAAAAUAGAUUAAAUUGUAAGUAAAACAUAAUUUAAACAUAUGAAUACAUCAAAUUAAUAAUACUAAAUGAAUACAGUUAUUUAUGAUGAUGUUGUUGCCAAUUCCUAAUUUGGUGUCUAGUUAAUUUGUGACAUCAUAAAUUUAAGUGAUAAAUUUAAGGUUUUAUGUAUUGAUGUGGAUUCAAAUAUCACCAUAAUUUUUGUAAAUAAAAAACUAAUAAGAUAACUUAUAUUAAGUACGAAAGGGUAUUUUUAUAAUUUCUCUAAUCGAGUUGGUGCCCGGUUGACUCAUGACACUAACUCAAUCAGAAGCUUUAAUAAUAAUAUAGAUAUUCAUGUUAAAAAAACAAAAAAAAAGUACUUUAGUUCCAAAUAAUUAUAUAACAAGUAAAUUUAUAAUUGAUGAAUAAAUUUAUAAAUAAUAUAUUUAUAUGAUCUAAUAUAUUAUAUUUAUAUUAAUUAUAUAUCAUCUACAAACUUUGAAGAUCAAUUUAUUAAGUAAAAAUGAAAUUGUUAACACUAAAUCAAUUUUUAGAUUUUGUAUAGAUGAUUUAGUGAUGAUAAAAACAUUAUUAACACUAUUUUUUAAUUAACAAAAAAUUAGUGAUAUAUUUAAAUUAUAUUUAUCAUUUAUUAUUUUUAAUAAUAUUUUUUAAUUAUAUGAAGUAAAAUUAUAUUGUAUACUAAAUAUGGUACAUAUACUCUAAUUAUAACUUGAAAUUUUAUUAUAUAAAUUAAUAUAAAUUUGAAUAACAAAAUAAAAAAAAACUAAUUAGAAUAAUUUUAAAAAACAUUAUUUAAAAGUAGUUAAAAAUCACGUGCAACAGGUGAGAUCAAUGGUCUUUAGAGAAGAAAUGUUGAAGAUCAAAGUUGGAAUCUGGCCUAUAAGGCCUUUAAUUGCUUUAAUAUUAAGCAGUUCCAAACCAAGAAGAUUACCGAUUUCCUCAGGAAUUUGACCUGCACACAUGGUCGAAAAAUCAAUGUGUCAAACUACCUAUUUUGUUAGCAUAAGUCAAAGAGGUUUUCUUUUCUAUUCUACAUAAUUUGCAGAUGUUAGAUUUUAAUAUUUUUAAGCAUAUUUGUUUUCAUCAAAUUAACUAUUUUGAACUAUUUUGCCUUGAAUGAAAUAAAAUGCUCUUACUUUUGUUAUCUAUUACUAAUCAAACUCUUUUAUAAAAAAAAUACUUUAAACUAAAGAAACCAAGAAAAUUCAAUACCUUCUAGGUUAUUCAACCCCAAAUAUAAUUCUUUGAGUCGUGUCGGAUUUCCAAUACUUCUUGGAAUGAUCCCCAUCAAUUGAUUAUAGGAAAAUGACAAAAUUUUAAGGUUGUUGCAUUUGCUUAUACUUGACGGAAUGUUACCAUAUAAUUCAUUCCGACUCAAGUAAAGCCCUUCAAGCUUGGAAAGAUGUGACACAUAUCAUUAGGCAAGCUACCUGAUAGGCUAUUGUUGGAGAGAUCAAUGGCCUUCAGAGAAGAAAUGUUGAAGAUCGAAGUUGGAAUCUGACCUGUAAGGCCUUUAAUUGCUUUAAUAUUAAGCAGUUCCAAACCAAGAAGAUUACCGAUUUCCUCAAGAAUUUGACCUGCACACAUGGUCGAAAAAUCAAUGUGUCAAACUACCUAUUUUGUUAGCAUAAGUCAAAGAGGUUUUCUUUUCUGUUCUAUAGUAAUUUGGUGAUGUUAGAUUUUAAUAUAAUUCAGCACAUGUUUUUCAUCAAAUGAAAUAAAAAGUUUUUCCUUUUGUUAUCUAUUACAAAUCAAGCUCUUUUAUUAAAAAAAUACUUUAAAUUCAAGAAAUCAAGGAAAUUAAUUACCUUCUAAAUUAUUAAACCCCAAAUAUAAUUCCUGGAGUCGUGUUAGAUUUCCAAUACUUCUUGGAAUGAUCCCCAUAAAUUGAUUAUGGGGCAACAACAAAUUUUUAAGGAUGUUUCAUUUGCCUAUGCUUGACGGAAUGUUACCAGAUAACUCAUUGCUAUGCAAGUGAAGCCCUUCAAGCUCGGGAAGAUGUUGACACAUAUCAUUAGGCAAACUACCUAAUAGGCUAUUCCUGGAGAGAGCAAUAGUCUUGAGAGAAAAAUGUUGAAGAUCGAAGUCGGAAUCUGAUCUGUAAGGCCUUUAAUUGCUUGAAUAUUAAGCAUUUCCAAACUAAAAAGAUUACCGAUUUCUUCAGGAAUUUGACCUGCAGACAUAGUCGAAACAUCAAGGUGUUAAAUUUCCUAUUUUGUUAGUGUAAAUCAAAGAGGCUUUUUAUUUUUUUUCGUUAUGAAAUAAUAUGGAUAUGUUCGAUUCUAAUCAUAUUUAAGUAUAUAUUAGUUCUUGAAAGAAUGAGUUCUUAUUUUUGGUAUUUAUAUUGCAAAUAUAUAUUUUUUUAAAUUUAAAAGAAGGGAGGGGGCAAAUGUGUUUAAACUAAAGACAUCAAGGAAAAGGCAUACCAAGUAUAAUUGUUUAAGUUGUGUCAAAUUCCCAAUGCUUUUUGGAAUGAUCCCACUAAAUUGAUUAAUAGACAAUUCCAAAAUUUGAAGGUUGCAGCAUUUGUCUAUACUUGAUGGAAUAGAACUUGAUAAUUCAUUUCUACUCAAGUAAAGCUCUUUCAGCUUGGGAAGAUGGACACACAAAUCAUCGGGCAAGCCACCAGAAAGACUAUUAUCACAAAAAUGAAUCCUUUUCAAAGAAGAAAUGUUAAAGAUGGAAGAUGGAACCUGGCCAGAUAAUUGAUUGAAUCCCAAGUUCAAGAUCUCUAGAUUGGACAAGUUGACAAGUGUUUGAGGGAUCGUGCCUGUGAAGUUAUUAUUUCUCAUUUCCAACCUUUGAACUCUGUGCAAGUUCCCAAGCCAUGGUGGAAUUUCCCCAUUAAGACGGUUGUAGCUUAAUCGAAUGAUCCUCAAACGAUGCAAUUGGCCUAAUUCUUUAGCCAGAUGGCCGUAGAAAUUGUUGUUGCUCAAGUCGAUAGAAAAUAGAAAUGAAAGAUUUCCAAGGUGUGGAGGGAUAGUACCCCUAAGAUUCAUGUUUGUAAGAUUAAUCAAAGCUACAACUCUUUCAUGGAUGAUGCCACAAGAAACACCAACCCACUUACAGACAGAGGUAGAGUUCGUCCAAUUGUUUGCCAACACAUUUUGAGGAUCGACAAUGCGAUCUUUAAACUCAAAGAGUGCAAACUGAUCGGAGUUGAGAUUCCGGACUGUCAUAGCCAAGGAAACAAUAGAACAUUGUAUGAAUAAAAGUGAAAGAAGAUGAAAGCAAGUGUUGUAGUUCAUGAUGGCAAGACGAAAUAAGCCAGGAAAAGGGAAGUUGAAUUGAUGAAGAAAUAGCCAGCCAACAUGCUUAAAUAGGCUUCAACCCUUGCACACUUCUCAUACAUAAAGUUCGCUGCCAUUACAACAAGAAAACUCAUAUCUCCAUUCGUACCUAUCCAUACUUUAUUUGACUAACUUUUCCCUAACAAGUGUUCAGUAAGGAGAUAAAUCAGUUUGGAGCUAUUCACCGGCUUCUCCAAUCUUGGUUUCAAACUCCUAACCCAUCAAUUCACUUUAAUUGAAACGAUAUACACGAGUCUUUCGGCUUAUAUUUUUAAUUUAAUUUUUGUUACUUUUCAUAAUAUUUUUUGAGAAAUCCAAAUAUUCCAGUCUGAAAUUUCUUCAUUGCCACGUCUAUCUCCUGGGUAAGUCCGUGGUUAGGCAGCCCACUUUGGGAGCAGGAUUGUAAUUGUAAUUCUAUCCGACUCAUUUUACUAUUUAGAAAUAUAAAAGUAAUAUUAUAUUAUUUUUUAUAUUUUUAUAAAUUUAAUUUUAAUUAUAAUUUUUAAACAAUAAAACGAGUCAUUUGUAUUUGCCUAGUCUAAAUUGAAUCAGGAGUCAAAAAAAUUUUAAUCAUAAUUUACUAUUAUUUUAAUUAAUUAAAAUUUAACCUACUACAACUAGUAGUUGCAGAAAAAAUGUCAUUCCUUUAGAAAAACGAAAAUCCUUUAGAAAAAUGAGAACUUAUGAAGCAUUCAAUAAGAGUCAUUGGAAUAAAUGGUAACGAAAUCAUAAUUCAAUAUAAAGCUAAAAAAUGUACCAAUCUAUAUAAAUAAUGUAAGAUUUGUGAUACCUAAAUUAUUAUAUUUUCCAUAAAUAUAUGAAGAUAUUUUAUUAGGAAAUAAUUUUAUAUAUAAAAUUUUUUAUUUUCUUUUGAUAGAAAUUUAAUUAUGUUAUCUGUAGAAAAAAAUAUUUAUAGAAAUAUUAUUAGUAGAAAAUCAUAAAUUUGUGUGUGGCAAAAAAAAUUCACCACCAAGAAAGGGGCAAAUUAAACAACUUGAAACAAGUCAUUGGUUGUUUAAAAUAUUAGAUAAUAAUUUCAGUGAAGAAUCAUUAAAAUUAUGACAAAAUAACCCUAGAUAUUGUAGUAUUAAAUUGGAAAAUCUCAAUAAUAUUAUUAGAGUAAAACCUAUGAUCUAUCUAAACAAGAUAUAGAAGAUUUUGAUAUACAAAUUAAGGUUAGAAAUCAUGCGGAAAUAAAAAAGAAAAAAAAGCUAGUAUGGUCAUUAAUUAUAAAAGAUUAAAUCAAAAUAUUAUUUUUUUAUAGUUACUUGAAUUAAUCAGGCUAAACAAACAAAAUAUUUUAGUAAAUUUGACUGCAAAUCAGGAUUCUAGCAAAUCAUGAUAACAGAAAAGUCCAAACCUUUAACGGCUUUUAGUGCACCCAAUGGACAUUACCAAUGGAAAGUGAUGUCAUUUCAAUUAUGUGAUGCACCACAAAUCUUCCAAAGACGAAUGGAUUUUAUAUUUAAUAAAUAUAAAAAAAUUCUAUGUAGUCUACAUAGAUGAUAUUUUUUAUAUUUUUAGAUACACUAGAAUUACAUAAGAAACAUUUAAAUAUUAUUUCUUAAGAAUUCAUAAAAUAUAGAAUCAUAUUAAACCCUAAAAAUAUAGAGUUAGAAAAAAGAGAGAGAAUUUUUAUAAUAGUGGAAAUAAAAAAUUGUCCUCAAAAGAUUGAAGAAAAAAAGAACUUCCAACAAUUUCUAAUAUAUUCCUCCCAAAUUUUCAGUUUCAAUUUUAUUACAGAAUUUCUUUGCCGACAAUAAGAAAUUAAGAGCGCUCUUUAAGUUGAAUAUAGUCCGUCAGAUAUGGCUAUCUAUAACAUGGAACCUUUGGUUUUCAAGCUGAAUAGGAGAAUUGAUUCACUUGAUAAGUAUGAAAAAUUGAAACUGCUAAAUUUAAGUGCACUAACUCUGGAUAUCAUCAUUAUUUUUCUGUACAUUAAAGUACCUGUUUGAUAUGCGAUUUCUGCCUCAAACUAUCAACAUCUUUAACAUCCUUUUGCUAUAGUUAGCAUGGGUACUUCCUUUUAGAUUAACAGUUAGGUUUGAACUGUGAAUUAGAUUUCUGUGGCUGCUGGGAUUGAAGAAGUUAGUAUGCGAAUGACAUUGGACAAAUUUGGCAAAGUCUUCUCCAUCAGUGAAGAAAACCCCUUGGCGUAUGAAAAAUGUUCACCAUCUUAGACAUUUGUUUUCUUAUUGUAAGAAUAUUUUUAACAUUGUAACUUUUAACAUUAUUGUAAGAAUAUUUUGAAUUAUACUUCAGUUAUCAAUUUAUAUCAUAUAUCUUUUGUUGAAUUUGAAGUAUAAUUUAUAUUUGCUGUUUUUGGUUAGAUUUCAUGCUAUAGGAAGGGUUGUAUAUGGAUAGAAAUUGAAUGUUACAAAUCUGCCAAAGUUAGUGGCGUUUUUUCAUAAGAGCUGCUAAAGAAUGCUAUUUUUGGCGGUGUUUGUAAUAAAAGAGCCGCUAAAGGUCAUGUUCUUUAGCGAUGUUUGUGGGUAAAGCGCCGCUAAAGAUCAUGUUCUGUAGCGGUGUUUGUGGAUAAAGCGCCGCUAAAGAACAUGACCUUUAGCAGCGUAUUUUCACAUAAACGCCGCAAAAUUUAGCGGCUUUGUCUAUAGCGACUUUUUUUGCAGCGCUUUAAGUUUUAGCGGCGCUUUUAGGCCUAAAAAAGGGCCGCUAAAAGCCUGUUUUGCUGUAGUGAGCAUAUUUACAUUUUCGUCCCAAUUUCAACUAACACCCCAUCUAUUUCCCACUUCCCUUUUUCGGGCAAUUUCAACUAACACCUUCAUAUCAAACAUAACUAUUUUUCAAUUUUUCUUCUUUAUUUCAUUAAUAAAAUUAUCAAUCUAUUUGUUUUUAAAUAUAUAAUUUCAUUAAUAUUUUUUAAAUUAUAAUAUAAGAGUUGUUGUUUAUUUAUAGUUUUAUUACAUUAUUUACUCUCUCUUUUCUAUCAAGUUUUUUAAAUUAUAAUAUAAGAUUUAUUUUAUCAAUUUGUGGCUUAUCCAGUAUUCAUCUAUUUUAAUAAUAACUUGAGUUCCAGUCAUUAUCAUACCAGAAAGAGUUCCAUUUAUUCUUUAUCGUAAAUUUUAUAAAAAAAUAUACAUUUUAUUAUAAUACUAUAUGUGUUACGAAUAAUAUUUUAUUGUGGAUGCCCAUAAUUUUCAAAGUUGUAACCUCUAAUGUAGUAACCUUAAUGAAAUUAUGAGGCUUUUAUAUUGUAAUCAAGCCUCUAUUUAUUCUUUGUAACUUAAACAGAAGCAUAUUUUCUAUUAUAUUGAUAUUUUUUAUAGAUAUAUAUAUAUAUAUAAGGAAUCAAAUAAAAAGUUAUUUACCUUUCUAUUAUAUUGAUAUUUUCUAUUUGAUUUGUUCUUUUCUUUCACUAUUCCAUAAUAUAUUAUCAGUACGAUUUUAACCAAGAGUAACAUGUUAUUAGAUUGUGUCAAAAUUUUGUUGAGAAUCAUUAGAUUGUUUCCUUUUUCUUCUAUUUAGCCCCAAAUUGCACCCCUACACAAAAUUCAACAAAAACAUGGAAAAAUUAGUGGUGCACUCUCAUAAAUUAACCAAUUUAAUUACAUAAAAUAUGUAACUUUAGCAUUUUAUCAAUCAUGUUCUUUAGCGGCAUUUGUGGGUAAAGCGCCGCUAAAGGUCAUAUUCUUUAGCAGCGUUUGUGAUAAAAGUGCCACUAAAUAUCAUGUUCUUUAGCGGCGUUUGUGGAUAAAGCGCCGCUAAAGAACAUGACGUUUAGCAGCAUUUUUUUACAUAAACGUUGUAAAAUUUAGCGGCGUUGUCUAUAGCGACGUUUUUUGCGGUGCUUUCAAAUAGUUUUAGCGGCGCUUGUAGGCCUAAAAAAAUGCCGCUAAAAGUCUGUUUUGCUGUAUGAGCAUAUUUACAUUUUCGUCCCAAUUUCAACUAACACCCCAUCUAUUUCCCACUUCCCUUUUUCGGCCAAUUUCAACUAACACCUUCAUUUCAAACGUAAUUGUUUUUCGAUUUUUCCUCUUUAUUUCAUUAAUAAAAUUAUCAAUCUAUUUGUAUUUUAAAUAUAUAAUUUUAUUAAUAUUUUUUAAUUAUAAUAUAAGAGUUUUUGUUUAUUUAUAGUUUUAUUAUAUUAUUUACUCUCUUUUUUCUAUCAAGCUUUUUAAAUUAUAAUAUAAGAUUUAUUUUAUCAAAUGGUGGCUUAUCGAGUAUUCAUCUAUUUUAAUAAUAACUUGAGUUCCAAUCAUUAUCAUACCAGAAAGAGUUCCAUUUAUUCUUUAUCGUAAAUUUUAUAAAAAAAUAUAUAUUUUAUUAUAAUACUAUAUGUGUUAGGAAUAAUAUUUUAUUGUGGAUGCCCAUAAUUUUCAAAGUUGUAACCUCUAAUGUAGUAACCUCAAUGAAAUUAUGAGGCUUUUAUAUUGUAAUCAAGCCUCUAUUUAUUCUUUGUAACUUAAACAGAAGCAUAUUUUCUAUUAUAUUGAUAUUUUUUUAUAGAGAUAUAUACAUAAGGAAUCAAAUAAAAAGUUAUUUACCUUUCUAUUAUAUUGAUAUUUUCUAUUUGAUUUGUUCUUUUCUUUCACUAUUCCAUAAUAUAUUAUCAGUACGAUUUUAAUCAAGAGUAACAUUUUAUUAGAUUGUGUCAAAAUUUUGUUGGACUUCAAGUAUUGGAAUUUAAUUGUUUAAGUUAAGAAUCAUUAGAAUCAAUGGCUAUUUGAGAUAUGCUUGAGGAUGAUCUCAUUCUCUUCAUCACAAAGGUGGAGGUUAGAAAAUCUUUAUGUUUAAACAUUUAUAGCUUUAAAGUUAUUUUAACCUCUUAUUGUGACCUUAUAAUAUUUUGUAAUUUUUUGUAUUAUGGUAUAUAAAAAAAAUCUAACCAUAGUGAUUGAUUAGUAAUAUGAAUUUGUUAUUUGUUAUGUUUAAUAUAUAUUUUAUUUAUACUUAUUCAUUUUAUUUUUAUAUGAGUAAAUGAAGUGUUUGAAGAUUCGAAAUUUUUAUCAUCCAAGUUGAAAAUAAGUGCAAAAGUGUACAUUAUUUAAAAUAAAUUACGCAUUCAUUAAUGUUAUAUGAUAAAAUCAUUACAUGUUCUAAAGAACUAAUAUUGCAUCAAACUGUAAAAAGCUCUUGAAGAGUUAAUAUUUUACCUCCUUGUGAUACAAAAUCAUAUACAAUAUGAUAUUAUUUUUCAAAUCGAGUAGAUAUAUGUUGAGGGAAAUCUUUAUGUGGUUUACAUUAAAACCAUGGAUAGAAAUGACAUGAGAUACUCGUGUAUUUUUAUUAUAAAUAUUCCUUGAAGGAAGACACUUCACUUGUAUGAUUGACAUAUGAGAUAGUGGCAAGAAGUUCAUAGUGUUGGUAUGGUCGUCUAGAUCAUCUCAAAUCAAUAAUGAUGCAAAAUAAUUUGAAGAGAAUUUAUAUGAUUUUAUUGAAGAAUGAGAAGAUAUUUUCAUUUUGAUAAUUGUCAUCAAUACUAGUUCUUUGGAAAAAAAAUAUUGAACUAACAUAAAGUUAGAGGUUGGUUGCAUUUUUUGAUGAUAUCCAAAUAAUAUAUGAGCUCAUGUAUCACAUGUAUGCAACCCAAAGUUUACAGUAUUAUUUCUUGAAAUAAUUUGAUUCUACACAAUCUCUAUAGUAUGCAAUUUGUGCUAACAACGUUGGUGCAUUAUAUCCUAAGCUUGAUUUUCGUAGUUUUAGCUGAGAUAAUAUUAAGUUGUCUAUGCCUAUAUAUGUUAUACUUAAUGGUUAGCAAAAUUGUGCCUCCAUUUAAUUGCUUAACCAUUAAUAUAAGAAUAACUUUAAAAUAAGCAUGUAAUUUUAUUUGCAUAGAGUCAACAUGUAAGAAACAUUUGCCCCAUGAGAAUUGGCUUUCAUUUAUAAGCCAAUAGGUUUCAUAUGACUAUUUGGAUGUAAAAUAUCUAUUUUAUAUUCCACCAUAAUGCACUAAGAUGGUCCAUCAAGUAUGAAGUUGAGAAAAUUUAGAAUUUUUAUUUGAUGGUAAAAGUUGAAAAGAGAUAUAUACUUAUAAUUUUGAAAAAAAUAGUCAUGUUGCAAAUUUUUCUCAAUAUUAGGGGGAGACAAGUUGGACAAAUAAGGAUAAUUAUGUCAUCACUUUUUGUGAUCCCUCACUAAUAUUAUGUGCACAAAGUUUGAAGGAAAAAAGUAUUUGCUAGACAUGUUUAGUGAUGACACUUAGAGAUUGUAUAUACUAGAUGAUACAUAUACCAGCUAAAAUGUUCCAAAUAAUUAUGAGUCCUAGAAGGACAUAGUGAUAAAAAUAAUUUUUGGGCACGCUAGAAGGAUAAAAAACUAGUUCAUUCUAUAAAUCAAAAAAUUCUUGAAAGAAAAGAGUAAGAAAUGAAGCUGGCCACACAUUAAAGGAAACGAGUACUCAUGAAGAGACCUAAGGCAUAACUUUUAAUAAAACCCCAAAAGAGGUUCAAUACAUGGAAUUAUGAAUAUAAUAAGAUAUCUCGAUUAGUUAUAUCAUAACUAAAGAUGAUGGGGUUGAUAAAAGGAAAUUGUUGUUAACAACGAUAAUCUAAGUAGAACAUUUCAAUAUUAUGGUAAAAUGAGUAUUUUGAAUGAAAAUAUACUUGAAAGUAUUUAGAUGGGAACAACUCAUCAAAAUAAAUAGACGUUUCUAUUAUAACUUAUGAAAUGUGUCUCGGACAUGAAGUCCAAACAUUCGACAGGUGUAAAGCCAAGUGGAGUAUAUGUUAGCAUAAUAGUGAAAAAAUACAAAUCAUAAUAUAUAAAAUUGACUUGUAAGACAAACUUUCCCAAGACACUUGAUUUUGAUUAUGAAAAAUGAUUAAUUUGUGAUCUUAUCAAUUGAACAUACUUUGUAUAAUCAACAAAUUAUUAAUUAACCUCAUUUAACCAAUUUCCUUCAACACAUUUCAAAUCAAAUUAAUGUGUUGAGCACGCCCUUAACCCUUUUUCUUGAUUCAUUGCAUAGUCUAUUUCCAAGUACCAUAAUCAUCAACAUUUCAAUAUAUAAAGUCAUAACAUAAUGAAUCAUAGUUAGAAUUUUUUUUACCCUAUUAACCAAGUAUGGAACAAAAAUAAAAACCUAAUUUGUCAAGCUCAUUCAAUCAGCUUAUAUAUUAUAAGAAGAGCCUAAGUAUAAAUCCUAUACAUGAUUUCAAAUUCAACUAUUUAUAUUUGAGAUUCAAUUUAAAAUUCAUACUGAAAUUAUCAAAUUAACUCGUAAGCUACUCACGCUAAACAUUAAGGUACUCGAAUUCAAGUGGCUAGAUAUCAUAAACACUUUUAGCUUGUAAAACUAUUUCUAAGGGUCAGCCCAGAAUCAUGGUUGAACCCAAAAUCUGGUAACAAAAAUUUAAUUGAGCCAUCAGCCUAAAACAAAUAAGGCUUAAAAGGUUGGCACCCGAACAAUCAAAGAUAAACACCACCAUAUGCCACUCCCUGAAUCCGAUACAUACAAUAACACCCUUCACCACUUUUAUUCUUCUCCUUUUUUUUAACCUCAAUUUGGAUGGUCGCAUUUCUCUUUUUAGUGCUUUAUAGGGUUUGGGCUUUCAGAAUCCUCAGAGAUGCAAUUCAUGGAUCCCUCUAAGAAAUGCAAGCUUGAUGAAAAUGGUAUUAUUUCAACGGCAUCAGAACCUGACCCAAUCACCAAACUAACCCCACAAGAUGGCCGCAAGCUAAUCGAGCAAUUUAUCGUCGAUCAACUCCUUGACGUCCUCCAAGAUGCUGUUUGUUGUCACCUUGAUGUUCUUUCCGCCGUACACUCUAUUGCCGAUCAAGAUCCAUCUCAAAGGAAGCUUUUCAUCCGUGGUUGGGUUGGGAUACUACAACCCAACCCAACCCACAUUAGCAUACUACCAUGCGGUAACUUCUAGUGAUUUCUGUCUGUAACAUUAGACAGGUUAACAGUUAAAUCGUUCAACUGAAAGAUUUCUUUGAAGGAAGAGGUCAAUUGAUUUUUUUUGGAAUCAUUGUGUACUCAGUUGCAUUUAAGACGGGUAUCAUUCAUAAAGUAUAUAUCUACAUCAAGAAUGGUAGCCUCUUAUAUUAUAUUCAUGUAUUUAUUUUGCAUCUUUAAUUAUAAUAGGAUUUUUUUUGUUUAUUUAUAGUUUUAAUUAUAAUAUUUUUUAAAUAUGCCAAAGUAAAUUAUGUACCAAUUUUAAACUUCUCCUAGGUAAUUUAACGUAAGGGCAUUUAUGUUAUUUUACCACUUAUGAUAAAACUAACCUAAUUUUAGAUCUAAGUGUUUACCAACCUUCUUUUAGUCAAAUUAUGCAAGCCUAAAAUUUUUAGCUUAAUUUGAGUUUGUUUACUAUGUCUAAUUCAAGUUUUAUUAUUAAGAACUAAAUUGUAACUUAAACAAAUUAGAAUACCAAUUUAAAGAGACAAAAAUUCAAAGCCCCAAAACCCACACGGGCAUGUGGGUAAGUGACACAGGCGUGUGGAAACUGGAGCUAUCACACACGGGUGAGUGGGACUGAAAAAUAUGAAAUAAAUUAAUCCAUUUAAAUUUCCAACAACCAUGCUAUACUACCAAACCAAAUAAUGUUAGAAGCUUUGAAUAGGGGCGAAUCUUAAAAAAAAAUAGAAGAAUUAGAAUUAAAUUAUAAAAUUUUGAGAAGUUGUCAUGUAUUAAUUUAUUAUUUUUUAAAGGGUCUUAAUAGAUUUUUUUUCCCCAUUUUGGUUUGGCCAAUACCCCUGUCUGCCUCUUUCAAUUUGCUUCAACCCUUAGCCCAAUAUUCGAUUUGUUGUGGAAGUUUGACGCAUAAAAAUUCCUUUUUUAGAGGUUUAAAUUAUAAAUUUUUAUUAACAAAAUAUAAAAGAAAAAAACAUGUGUAGACAAGCCAAGAAACCUUUGGGAUCAUACAGGUGAUUUUGAGAUGUUCAUGGUUAUUUUGGUGGAGAGGGUAAAAAAGAAACAAAUGAUUCAUUAUAUAUGAUAUAAUUAUGAAAUUCAAGCCAUAUAUUGUAUGUUUCAUCCAUACAAAUUUCUUGUAGCAUUAAAUGACUCGUAGGCUUGCUGAAUUUCUUUGAAAGGCCCAAAGGCAAUUUAACAUUCACAAAAUAAUCUCUAAAUAGUGUAAAGACAAAUCAAAUCCACAGUAGCAUUAGAGUUGAUUAAGCUAAGCAUUGGCAAAUAUUACUUUGAUUUUGCAUGCAAUAUUGGCAAAACCCCCUCUUACAUUAGAAAAACAACAUAAUCCAUGAAACAUUGAUAGCCCAAUACAAAUUUCAUCGAGAAAAAAGUCUCUUUGUUUUGUAGAACAUGAUAGUAAAGAUGUGGAGUUUCGUUCUUCUUAUUGGCCUCCUUUAGUUUUCCUUGAUCAACAACCACUAGCCAAAAACACAAUUAGAUUAGAUUAUGAAUGAUACUUUCAACUAUGACAAUAUUAAAUACAAACCACUCUAAAUAACUCUAAAUAAAUGGAAAGCAGCAAAUUACCAGACGAGGCAAGCUAGCUCAAUUAAGACCAUUGUGUUAUACUUGUCUCUGAAUUGAAAAAUUUAGAAGGAAAUAAAGAGAAAGACUUAGAAAAUACUUGAAAACAGAAAAAAAAAUUAUGUCAUUUAAAAUAAAAAAUUUCUAUUCAAGCCAUUUAAAAUUUGUAAGAUUUUUAAAAUUUUAAAAUGAUAAAGGUAAAAUUGUACUUUGGCACCCCAAAAAUGAUAAAACUUUGAUUUAAUUAUUUAAAAAUUAUAAAAAUAUAGGCUAUUAAAAUGGUGAAAUUAUAUUUUUACUAUAGUAAAAAUUACAAUUUAAUUUCACCCCUAAAAGGAUUUUCUGGCUUCGCACCUAAUAAAAUCUUUGGCAAAAGACUAAAAUAAAAUUAUACCAUGAAUGGAAAAAGAAACUAAUAAAAUCCAAUCUAACAAAGAAAAUAACUUGAUGUCCAAAAGCUACCAUAAACCGUAAUUCAUGGGAAGGCUUGUUGCUUAUUUUAUUGGUUUCCAUUUUGAAAGAAGUUUGAAUUUUGAAGAGAGCCUACUACGUGAAAGCAAAAGAAAAAAAAAUAGUUUAUAUGAUUAAAAUUCCAGAAUAGAUUAAAAAUGUUGAAUUAAAGAUAAAAUUAAGUGUGAAUUAAUAACCACAAGUGUACUCUUUACUCACCAUCUCUGUUAAAAAUGUUGGAUGUUGUUUAGCAACCUUUGUUUGAUUUUCUUCAGCUCAACCACAACAUCUUUCAUAUCUUUUCUUUCUUCUGGUAACUCAGCUGAACAAUUCAAAGCCAACUCCAUGAUAGAUGAAAUACAAUUUGCUUUAACAACAAUGUACUCAUCCUCUCUUCUUAAUAAAUCAACAUCUGCAAUUUCUAUCGCUCCUUUAGGCAAUGAUCUUUCCAUCCAAUGCCUUAUACUCUCUUCUUCAACAAAAACCUUAUCAGUUGGCUUUUUCUUUGUGAAAGUUUCUAUAAGGACGAUCCCAUAACUAUAGACGUCAGAUUUUAUAGAAACAAUUCCUGCUGAUCCAAAUUCUGCAUUUCAAGUAUAAUUAGAACAUCAUUCAUCCUCAAUUAUUUCUAAAACGCUUAUUCAAAUAUCUAUCCACAUACACGUGAAACAAAAAUAUAAAAUACAAAUUAGGAAAAUAAUCAUACAAAAAUAAAAAAAAGAAUUCACCUGGUGCCAUAUACCCAAUAGUUGCAAGAGUCAUGGUUUGCUUCAUUACUUCACCUUCUCCCAACAAUUUGGCAACGCCAAAAUCUCCAACAUGUGCAACCAUGUCUUCAUCUAGUAAAAUAUUGCUUGGUUUUAUGUCACAAUGAAUUAUAGGUGUUGGAUGUCCAUUGUGGAGGUGUUCUAUAGCUACCGCAACAUCUAUCAUUAUGUCGACCCUUUGUAUGAUACCAAGGAAACAAUUUUCAGAAUGUAACCAUUUCUCAAGGUUUCCAUUAGACAUGUAAUCAAGCACCAAGGCUUUGAAGUCAACACUUGAGCAGUAAGUAAUGACCUUCACAAUAUUACGAUGAACUAUAUUAAGCAUAGCAUCACAUUCAAUGUCAAAACUCCUAAAUGCUCCCUCUGUUUGCAAAUUGAAAACUUUUAUUGCAACUUCCAUUCCAUCUGAAAGCCUCCCUUUAUAUACAUAUCCAAAACUCCCUGAACCAAGCGUAUUGCUUUCCUCAAAUCCAUUAGUUGCUCGUGAAAGUUCAGCAUGUGAAAUUCUUCUCAGUGUCUUCAAAGACAACAAAUCAUCUUUAACUGGUAGAGCUGUACUCCUUUGGCAUCUUCUAUACAUAAUAGUUAAGACUAUUAGUACUAGGACAAUACCAAUUGUUGGUAAACCAUACCUAAAAGCAUGCAAUAUAAUCAUUUGGGAGUUUUUGUGGAUGUCAUUUUUGCAAGGUGGGACUAGCAAUCUAGGUGGACCACAAAGUGCACAAUUAUUCAUGAAUGAUGUGCUAGAAAAGUUUGAAAAACAUCCUUUGCUGGGAAUUUCCCCUUCAAGUCUAUUGAAAGACACAUUAAAAUACUUUAGAUAUAAAAGCUUUUCCAAAGAUUUGGGAAUGACUCCAGAGAGAUUGUUAUUGCAUAAAUCCAAGAAUUCCAAACUAAUCAACCCUUCAAAUGAUUCAGGGAUAUGACCAUAUAGUAUGUUAUUUGAUAAAUCUAAUGAAACCAAAGUUAUAAGACCCCCAAAUGUGGAUAAGAUAUCGCUCGUGAGAAGAUUCCUUGAUAAAUUUAGUCUCAGUAGACUCCUAAAAUUUCCAACAUCAAUAGCAUGUGAAUUGUGAAGACGGUUUGAUGAUAAAUCUAUUUCUAAGAUAUCUUUAAGACUCCACAAAGUUGAGGGUAUUGUAGAACUCAAUUUGUUGGAACCUAACCAAAGAUAUCUCAAAGCAGAAAUAUUACCUAAACAAGAGGGUAUGGAUCCAUGCAGCUUAUUCAACCCUAAAUACAUCUCGUAUAGUCUCUCCAAACCACAAAGGCUUUCUGGGAUAGGCCCUCCUAAUUUAUUAGAGGAAAGACCUAGAAUUUGGAGAUUUCUCAUUCCUCCUAUUGAUGCUGGAAUCAAUCCACUUAAUUUAUUAUACCCAAGAUCUAAAAGCAAUAGGUUGGUUAAGUUACCUAUUUCCAUAGGAAUAAUGCCUUGAAGCUCACACUCUGUGGCAUGAAAGUAUUGAAGGGAUUUUGAAAGGUUCCCGAAAUAAGUAGGAAGAACGCCACUCAAUGGAUUUCCUGAAACAUCUAUUAUGCUCAAAUUCCUACAAUUCGUCAAAGAAGAAAGAAAGCUCCACUCAUGAUCAGUAGCAGAUCCUGUGAUCAAAUUAUUGUCAUAGAUUUGGAGCCAUACAAGUUGUCUUAAGCUGCCAAGCGUUUUAGGGAUUGGGCCAGAGAAUGAGUUAUCUCCCAAGUCUAGUUCCUUAAGCAUGGAAGCAUUGGAGAUAGAGUUGGGAAUGUUUCCGCUAAGUUUAUUUCCCCACAGUAAAAGAAUCUGAAGCUUUGGAGCAUUGGUAAUGGGUGGUAAAUUACCUGUAAAAUAGCAUCUUUUAGAAAACAUUCACAAAAUAUAUAAUACAUUAAAAUAAAAACUUUAAAUCAAUUAAGAAUAAAAUUUUGGCAUGGAAAAAUGUGAUGAAAUCAAUUAGAAAGUUGAGACAUAAUAAGAAGUUUUGAGUAGUAAUUAGUCCUUGUGAUUUGUAUAGACAAAACAUAUAAUACACUGAUAAUUUUUUUAAAAUAUUGUAAAACCUGAAAUAAAAUAAAAAAUAAAAGUUUGGCACGAGAAUGUGGCAUCUAAUCAUUCUUAAAAAUAAGACUAACAUUAAAUAAUAAUUAGUUAUGAUUUGAGAAACAAAAAUGUUAAAGAUGUAAACUGGUAUGAUUUUUAUCUAUUGGGUUAAUUAUUUAUUUUUAUUAAAUUAUAUAUAGUGUAAAAUUUAAAGAUUAUUAUUUGCUCAAAAUUUUUGUAUUUUAGGAUUUUAGGAUCGCAUUUAAUUCAAUUGUAUUUAAGACCUCAUGAAUUUAUUCUAUAAUUUGAGUCUUUUCAACCUUUUGGGAAAUAAUAAAACAUCGACAUUAAACUUGUUGUUGAUGCAUUCAAUUUGAUUUUUUGAGGGGUCAUUGGAGUUAUAUGUGAAUUUAGCAUUGAUUGACUUUUUUAGAAUUAAUCUUUUAUACCAAUUUAAUAACAUCGACAUGUUUUUGGGUAGGGUCGAGCAAAACCCAAUUAAAACCGAUGAAAUUGGUUUAGUUAACUCGGUCAAGUCCAUUAGAUGGAUAAAAUCAAUUUUAAAAUCAGUUAUUAUGGAUUAAGGUAAUUAAUUAUCGAGUAAUGAAAUACAUAAUCAAAUCAAUUGAUUUUGUUAGAAACUAAAAGAAAGUGGGAUAAGCUGAAAACUGAUUGCCCUUUUUUAGAAUUAAGGAAUCAGCCUUUUACAUGUUAGAUAAUAUGAACACCCCAUAUAUAAUAAGAAAAAUUAUGUACGAUUAUUUAUUAUCAUAAAUGGUUAGUUUAAAUUUAAAGUAAUCUAAUAUGUGUGUUGAACUUCAACUAUUACAUAAAGUAUAAGCUAAAUAUGUAUAAAUAUUCUAGAAACCAUUUCUAACUGAUGAUAGGCUAAUUUGAAAUUAAGAUUAAUAUAUAAAAACUAGAUAGUAGGGUUAUAGUCCUCAAACUACACCUAAUUUAAUAAAAUCUAUAGUUUUUAUAGCCUUAAACAUUUAUAGAUUUUGUUAAUUUGGUCCUUACUCUUUAAAAUUACAUAAAAAUUGCAAAAAUAUUUUAGAAAUACAAUUUUUUCGUAUUUUUAAUAACAUUUAUAGUUUUUUUUUUGGUUUGGUAACUUAUCAACUCGACUCUUAAUUGUAACCAACUUUUCUGAUUUUUUCGUACCCUUAACCUAAGUCCCGUUACAACUUUCUAAAGACCUCUUGAUUGGUGUAUCAUCUCGAUUUGUUCUUAUAGUGGUGGGGAUUUGGUUUUCAAGCAAGCCUAUGCUAAUCACAUUUUUCGUUCAACUAUUGAGCACACAGUACUUGAACCUUAAACACUUUGAGUGCUUUGAGUGAAUCUUAGUUAGGGUAUUGAUUAUUGUUGAGUUUGAAUUUUAGGUAAUUAUUGAGAUGGAGGAGAUGCCUAUUUUUUUGUGCUUUACAAAUUUCUGCUUAGAUUGCUUUUAUUCUUUAGUUUCAUGCUAGUUUCAAUUUCCAGUGCAUGAUUAUCUAUAGAUUAUUCAUAAGGCAUUGUCGGUGAAAACAAUAAAUUGAGGGAGAUUAACUUGAAAUAAAUUGAGGGAUAUUAACUUGAAUAAAGGUUGAGAAUUUUGCUUAAGGACAAACAAAUGCUUAAGUGUGGGGAUAUUUGAUAAGUGCUAAAAUUGAUAUGUUUUAACAUCAUUCUUAAUGUGUUUUUGGUUGAUUAUUCGAUGUUAAUGAUGCUCCUAAUCCUUACAAUUCGUGUUUUUAUGCUUAAUAGAACAUUUGGGAGGAAAAUGAGCUAAAAAUGAACGAAAACCUGAAAAUGGGGGCAAACUAUAGGACAUGGGCUGACCUAUUCCUCAUGACCGUAUGACUCACACGAUCAUGUGGUAGGUUGUGUCGAUUUCGUAGAUUUGCACUCUGAACUGUAAAAAAAGAAAAUUUUAGAUUUUUUGAGCAUUUUAAUACGUAUAUAUGAAAAAAAUAAGAAGAUAGGAGAGAACCUUCCUAGAAUAUUUAAGAAAACAACUCCAAAGACACUAUUGAAGUCGACUCUGAAGCAAAUUUUCCUCAAGAUUGAAGAUUCCCAGUUGGUUUCUUAAGAGAUUAUCAUGAGUUUCUUUAUUUCUUCUGGUUAUACUGCCCUUUGGAUGUUUUUAUUUUUAAGCAUGAACUAAUUUUCUAAAUACCGAAUUAGAGAGAUGAACCCUAUGAUAGAUUGUGACACCCCAAACCCAACCGGAUAGACCCGCCCGAAUUCAAAGCAUUUCAUUAGCCACCUAAGUGACUCUCCAGCUAACGACCACCCAAGACACACCUCGACCUUAUAACACCUCAAUCUUAUCUAAUUACUAGUUAUUUAUUAAUGUAGAAGUAAAUUAAUAUGAGCCAAUUUUAAACUUUUUCUAGGUAAUUUAACCUAAAGGCAAUUUUGUCAUUUUACCACCUAAUGUAAAACUAACCCGAUUUUAGAUCUAAGUGUUUACUAACCUUCUUUUAGUCAAAUUAUACAAGCCUAAAAUUUUCAGCUUAAUUUGAGUCCGUUUACUAUGUCUAAUUCAAGUUUUAUUAAUAAGGACUCAAUUGUAACUUAAACAAAUUAAAAUACCAAUUUAAAGAGACAAAAAUUCAAAACUCCAAAACCCACACGGGCAUGUGGGUAAGUGACAAGGGCUUGUGGGAUUGAAAAAUAUGAAAUAAAUUAAUCCACUCAAUUUUCCAACAACCAUGCUAUACUACCAAACCAAAAAAACACUUGAAGUUUUGAAUAGGGGCGAAUCUAAAAAAAAUUAGAAGAAUUAGAAUUAAAUUAUAAAAUUUUGAGAAGUUAAAAUAUAAUUUUAUCAUGUAUUAAUUUAUUGUUUUUUAAAGGGUCCUAAUAUAAUUUUUUUCCCAUUUUGGUUGGGCCAAUACCCCUGCCUGCCUCUUUAAAUUUGCUCCAACACUAAACCCAAUAUUCGAUUUGGAUUAACAACAACAUAUAGGUUAGUAUUUGUGGGAGUUUGACGAAUAAAAAUUCCUUUUUUAGAUGUUUAAAUUAUAAAUUUUUGAAAGAUUAAAAUAAAUUUGUAUUUUUUUAUUAACAAAAUAUAAAAGAAAAAAAAAUAUGUUUAGACAAGCCAAGAGAACUUUGGGAUCAUACAGGUGAUUUUGAGAUGUUAAUGGUUAUUUUGGUGGACAGCGUAAAAAAGAAACAAAUGAUUCAUUAUAUAUAAUAUAAUUAUGAAUUUCAAGCCAUAUAUUGUAUGUUUCAUCCAUAAAAAUUUCAUGGGAGGUCCAAAGGUAAUUAAAUGACUUGUAGGCUUGCUGAAUUUCUUUGAAAGGCCCAAAGGCAAUUUAACAUUCACAAAAUAAUCUCUAAAUACUGUAAAGACAAAUCAAAUCCACAGUAGCAUUAGAGUUGAUUAAGCUAAGCAUUGGCAAAUAUUACUUUGAUUUUGCAUGCAAAAUUGGCAAAACCCCCUCUUACAUUAGAAAAACAACAUAAUCCAUGAAACAUUGAUGGCUCAAUACAAAUUUCAUCGAGAAAAAAGUCUCUUUGUUUUGGAGAACAUGAUAGUAAAGAUGUGGAGUUUCGUUCUUCUAAUUGGCCUCCUUUAGUUUUCCUUGAUCAACAACAAUUAGCCAAAAACACAGUUAGAUUAGAUUAUGAAUGAUACUUUCAACUAUGACAAUAUUAAAUACAAAACACUCUAAAUAAAUGGAAAGUAGCAAAUUAAGACCAUUGUGUUAUACUUGUCUCUGAAUUGAAAGAUUUAGAAGAAAAUAAAGAGAAAGAGUUAGAAAAUACUUGAAAACAGAUAAAACUUAUAUGUCAUUUAAAAUAAAAAAAAUUUCUAUUUAAGCCAUUUAAAAUUUUUAAGAUUUUUUAAAUUUUAAAAUGAUAAAGGUAAAACUAUAUUUUGGUACCCAAAAAUGAUAAAACUUUGAUUUAAUUCUUUAGAAAUUAUAAAAAUAUAGGCUAUUAAAAUGGUGAAAUUAUAUUUUUACUAUAUUAAAAAUUACAAUUUAAUUUCACUUGCUAAAAGGAUUUACUGGCUUCGCCCCUAAUAAAAUCUUUGGCAAAAGAUUAAAAUAAAAUUAUACCGUGAAUGGAAAAAGAAACUUAAGAAAACCCAAUCUCACAAAGAAAAUAACUUGUCCAAAAGCUACCAUAAACCGUAAUUCAUGCGAAGGCUUGUUGCUCAUUUUAUUGGUUUCCAUUUUGAUUUUGCAAAAGAAGUUUGAAUUUUGAAGAGAGCAAAAGAAAAAAAUAGUUUAUUAAUUUUUUACGAAUACCGACAUAUUAUAUACAUGAUUAAAAUUCCAGAAUAGAUUAAAAAUGUUGAAUUAAAGAUAAAAUUAAGUAUGAAUUAAGAACCACAAGUGUACUCAUUACUCACCAUCUCUGUUAAAAAUGUUGUUUAGCAACCUGUGUUUGAUUUUCUUCAGCUCAACCACAACAUCUUUCAUAUCUUUUCUUUCUUCUGGUAACUCAGCUGAACAAUUCAAAGCCAAUUCCAUGAUAGAUGAAAUACAAUUUGCUUUAACAACAAUGUACUCAUCCUCUCUUCUUAGUAAAUCAACAUCUGCAAUUUCUAUUGCUCCUUUAGGCAAUGAACUUUCCAUCCAAUGCCUUACAGUCUCUUCUUCAACAAAAACAUUAUCAGUUGGCUUUUUCUUUGUGAAAGUUUCUAUAAGGACGAUCCCAUAACUAUAGACGUCAGAUUUUAUAGAAACAAUUCCUGCUGAUCCAAAUUCUGCAUUUCAAGUAUCAUUAGAACAUCAUUCACCCUCAAUUAUUUCUAAAAUGCUUAUUCAAAUAUAUAUCCGCAUACACAAGAAACAAAAAUAUAAAAUGCAAAUUAGGAAAAUAAUCGUACAAAAACAAAAAAGAAUUCACCUGGUGCCAUAUACCCGAUAGUUGCAAGAGUCAUGGUUUGCUUCAUUACUUCACCUUCUCCCAACAAUUUGGCAACGCCAAAAUCUCCAACAUGUGCAACCAUGUCUUCAUCUAGUAAAAUAUUGCUUGGUUUUAUGUCACAAUGAAUUAUAGGUGUUGGAUGUCCAUUGUGGAGGUGUUCUAUAGCUACCGCAACAUCUAUCAUUAUGUCGACCCUUUGUAUGAUAUCAAGGAAACAAUUUUCAGAAUGUAACCAUUUCUCAAGGUUUCCAUUAGACAUGUAAUCAAGCACCAAGGCUUUGAAGUCAACACUUGAGCAGCAAGUAAUGACCUUCACAAUAUUACGAUGAACUAUAUUAAGCAUAACAUCACAUUCAAUGUCAAAACUCCUAAAUGCUCCCUCUGUUUGCAAAUUGAAAACUUUUAUUGCAACUUCCAUUCCAUCUGAAAGCCUCCCUUUAUAUACAUAUCCAAAACUCCCUGAACCAAGCAUAUUGCUUUCCUCAAAUCCAUUAGUUGCUCGUGAAAGUUCAGCAUGUGAAAUUCUUCUCGGUGUCUUCAAAGACAACAAAUCAUCUUUAACUGGUAGAGCUGUACUCCUUUGGCAUCUUCUAUACAUAAUAGUUAAGACUAUUAGUACUAGGACAAUACCAAUUGUUGGUAAACCAUACCUAAAAGCAUGUAAUAUAAUCAUUUGGGAGUUUUUGUGGAUGUCAUUUUUGCAAGGUGGGACUAGCAAUCUAGGUGGACCACAAAAUGCACAAUUAUUCAUGAAUGAUGUGCUAGAAAAGUUUGAAAAACAUCUUUUGCUGGGAAUUUCCCCUUCAAGUCUAUUGAAAGACACAUUAAAAUACUUUAGAUAUAAAAGCUUUUCCAAAGAUUUGGGAAUGACUCCAGAGAGAUUGUUAUUGCAUAAAUCCAAGAAUUCCAAACUAAUCAACCCAUCAAAUGAUUCAGGGAUAUGACCAUGUAGUAUAUUAUUUGAUAAAUCUAAUGAAACCAAAGUUUGAAGACCCCCAAAUGUGGAUAAGAUAUCGCCCAUGAGAAGAUUCCUUGAUAAAUUUAGUCUCAGUAGACUCCUAAAGUUUCCAACAUCAAUAGCAUGUGAAUUGUGAAGAUGGUUUGAUGAUAAAUCUAUUUCUAAGAUAUCUUUAAGAUUCCACAAAGUUGAGGGUAUUGUAGAACUCAAUUUGUUGGAAUCUAACCAAAGAUAUCUCAAAGCAGAAAUAUUACCCAAACAAGAGGGUAUGGGUCCAUGCAGCUUAUUCAACCCUAAAUACAUCUUGUAUAGUCUCUCCAAACCACAGAGGCUUUCUGGGAUAGGCCCUUCUAAUUUAUUAGAGGAAAGAUCUAGACCUUGCAGAUUCCGCAGUCCUCCUAUUGAUGCUGGAAUGAAUCCACUUAAUUUAUUAUGGUCAAGUUCUAAAACCAAUAAGUUGGUUAAGUUACCUAUUUCCAUAGGAAUAAUGCCUUGAAGCUCACAAUUAUAGGCAUGAAAGGAUUGAAGGGAUUUUGAAAGGUUCCCAAUAUAAGUAGGAAGAACGCCACUCAAUGGAUUUCCUGAAACACCUAUUUUUCUCAAAUUCCUACAAUUCGUCAAAGAAGAAAGAAAGCUCCACUCAUGAUCAGUAGCAGAUCCUGUGAUCAAAUUAUUGUCAGUGAUUUUGAGCACUUCAAGGUGUUUUAAGCUGCCAAGCAUUUUAGGGAUUGGGCCAGAGAAUGAGUUAUCUUCCAAGUCUAGUUUCUUAAGCAUGGAAGCAUUGGAGAUAGAGUAAGGAAUGUUUCCGCUAAGUUUAUUUCCCCACAGUAAAAGAAUCUGAAGCUUUGGAGCAUUGGUAAUGGGUGGUAAAUUACCUGUAAAAUAGCAUCUUUUAGAAAACAUAUUCAUUGAAUACCAAAUUCACAAAAUAUAUAAUACAUUAAAAUUAAAACUUUAAAACUUUAAAUCAAUUAAGAAUAAAAUUUUGGCAUGGAAAAUUGUGAUGAAAUCAAUUAGAAAGUUGAGACAUAAUAAGAAGUUUUGAGUAGUAAUUACUCAUGAUUUCCAUAGACAAAACAUAUAAUACACUGAUAAUUUUUUUAAAAAUAUUGUAAAACCUGAAAUAAAAUAAAAAAUAAAAGUUUGGCAUGAGAAUGUGGCAUCUAAUCAUUCUUAAAAAUAAGACUAACAUUGAAUAAUAAUUAGUUAUGAUUUGAGAAACAAAAAUGUUAAAGAUGUAAACUGGUAUGAUUUUUAUCUAUUGGGUUAAUUAUUUAUUUUUAUUAAAUUAUAUAUAGUGUAAAAUUUAAAGAUUAUUAUUUGCUCAAAAUUUUUGUAUUUUUCGUAUAUUUGAAAUUUAAUCUUUAUAUUUUUUAUUUUCUGUGAUUUAGUCUCUCUACUUUUUGAAUUGAAAAUUUUAAGUUUAUUUAUUAACACUGUUAAAAAGUUUUUGUGUUAGUAUGGCAUUUUGAAAAAUAAAAUAAACUUGAUAUCUAUGUUUUUAAUUAUUCCAAAUACUGUUUUACUAUUCCAAGAUAAAUUAUUUGUGUCUAGACCAAUAUCUUAAGAACUAUUGUUGCAUGUUUAAUUAUUCUAAAGAAUUGUUGAUUGAGUCUUAGUUGAAGUGCACUAUUCUCCUAUUUAUGAAUUGGGGAGUUGAUAAAGUACUAAAUUUUGAUAUAUUUUAAAAAAUUAAAAAUUUAUUAAAAUAUUUUUAUAAAAAUUAAUUGUACCAAAAUAUACAAUUUUAAUAUCAAAUUUUUAAUUUUUUUAAAAAUAUUAGCGAAUAUAUACUUUAUUUCAAGUUACACAAUUUUUACUAGUUUUUAACUUUUUUUUUAAAUUUUUAUCGUCUUUUAUAAUUUCAUAUAUUUUUUUAUAAUUUUUUACAAUAUUUACAAUUUCUAACAAUUUUUAAUAAUUUUAUUAUUUAUUAUAAAUUUAAAAAUUAACAAAUUUUUAUUUUUUUAAAACAAUUAUAUAUUUAUAAUGUAGUUAUUUUUUUAUAAUUUUUUUUGAAAUUUAAAGAUUUUUUUGGUUUUUUCUAGAUGAUGAUGCCAUCAUGAUGUCAUCAUAUGCCACAUGGCAAUUUAUAAUUAGUUGACUAUCUCAAUCUAUUUUUUUAACGUCCAAUGGACUAAAACAAGAACACCUGAUAAUGUUAGAGACUACACUAGGAAUGUUUGAUAAUAUUAGGUACUAAAGUGGGCAAAAAAAAUUAAGGACUAUAUUAAAAAUAUAUCUAUAAUAUAUAUAAAUGCAUGGAUUUUGAGAAACUUUUGAAAUGACAAAUAUAUAGUCUUUGUUUUUUUUUACUAUAUUAUUGAAUUUUUUAUUUUAAAUAUUUUUUUAUUACUUUUAAGAUUUAUCAUAUGUAUGGAUAAAAAUUUUGGUUUUACUAAAAUAUUUGGUUAAAUAAAUUCACUUUAUAAAAAAAUUUAGCAUCCUUAUAAAUAACAAUUUUGAUUCCAUUAAAAAAAUUAUUUAAAAAUAUAUAAUAAAAAUUUAAAAUUUAUAUUGAAUCACUUUAUACUUAAAUUAUUAUUAGAAACUUUAUCAUACACAUAUGUGUAUGAGAACCACGUUUUCAGAACUUAAAUUUGUGUUCUAAAAUAACUUAUGAUAAAUAAUUAAAUGUAUAAUUUGAAAUUAUAUUGAAAUAAAAAUAGAUUAAAUUGUAAGUAAAACAUAUAUAAUUUAAACAUAUGAAUACAUCAAAUUAAAAAUACUAAAUGAAUACAUUUAUUUAUGAUGAUGUUGUUGUCAAUUCAUAAGUUGGUGUCGAGUUAAUUUGUGACAUCAUAAUUUUAAGUGAUAAAUUUAAGGUUUUAUGUAUUGAUGUCGAUUCAAAUAUCACCAUAAUUUUUUUAAAUAAAAAACUAAAGCACCCUCAAAUAAUAUAACUUAUAUUAAAUAUGAAAGGGUAUUUUUGUAAUUUCUCUAACGAGUUGGUGCCCGGUUGACUCAUGACACCAACUCAAUCAAAAGCUUCAAUAAUAAUAUAGAUAUUCACGUUUAAAAAAAGUACUUUAGUUCGAAAUAAUUAUGUAACAAGUAAUUUUAUAAUUGAUGAAUAAUUUUAUAAAAAUAUAUUUAUAUGAUCUAAUAUAUUAUAUUUAUAUUAAUUAUAUAUCAUCUACAAACUUUGAAGAUCAAUUUAUUAAGUAUCAGGAAAAGAAAAAAUGAAAUUGAAUUAACACUAAAUCAAUUUUUAGAUUUUGUACAGAUGAUUUAAUGAUGAUAAAAACAUUAUUAGCACUAUUUUUGAAUUAACAAAAAAUUAGUGAUAUAUUUUAAUUAUAUUUUUUAUUUUUUAUUUUUAAUAAUAUUUUUUUAAUUAUAUGAAGUAAAAUUAUAUUGUAUACUAAAUAUGGUACAUAUACUUUAAUUAAAACUUGAAAAAGUAUUAUAUAAAUUAAUAUAUUUUAAUUAUAUUCAACCAUUUGAAUAACAAAAUUAAAAAAAAACUAAUUAGAAUUAUUUACUUUUUAAAGUUUAAUGGAAAAUAAAAAAUAAAAAAUAAAUCAAUUCAUAUAAAUCUUAUUGUUUAUUAUCAGAUUAAAAUGAUAAAAGUAUAUGACAUACAUAGAAGAAACAAAUUCAACACCAUGUUUUUGGAGUUUGGAAAAAAUUAAAGUGAAAAACCUACCUUCUAAACUGUUGUUAAAUAGAUCUAUUUCUUCGAGCGUAGUUGAAUUAAAAAUACUUGAUGGAAUCUGACCUGCACACAUAGUCGAAAAUUGAAGUGAAAUCAAACUCUUUUGUGAAAAAAAUAUUACCAGAUAAUUCAUUCCAACCCAGGUAAAGCCCUUCAAGCUUGGGAAGAUGUUGACACAUAUCAUUAGGCAAACUACCUGAUAGGCUAUUGUUGGAGAGAUUAAUGGUCUUCAAAGAAGAAAUGUUGAAGAUCGAAGUUGGAAUCUGACCUAUAAGGCCUUUAAUUGCUCUAAUACUAAGCCUUUCCAAACUAAGAAGAUUACCAAUUUCCUUAGGAAUUAGACCUGCAGACAGUCGAAAAUUCAAUGUUUUUCAGCAUAUGUUUUUCAUCAAAUGAAAUAAAAAGUUCUUCCUUUUGUUAUCUAUUACAAAUCAAACUCUUUUAUAAAAAAAAUACUUUAAAUUCAAGAAAUCAAGGAAAUUGAUUACCUUCUAGAUUAUUAAACCCCAAAUAUAAUUCUUGGAGUCGUGUUAGAUUUCCAAUACUUCUUGGAAUGAUCCCCAUAAAUUGAUUAUAGGACAACGACAAAAUAUUAAGGUUGUUGCAUUUGCCCAUGCCAAAUGGAAUGUUACUAGAAAACUCAUUGCUAUCCAAGUAAAGCCCUUCAAGCUUGGGAAGAUGUUGACACAUAUCAUUAGGCAAACUACCUGAUAGGUUAUUGUUGGAGAGAUCAAUGGUCUUCAAAGAAGAAAUGUUGAAGAUCGAAGUUGGAAUCUGACCUGUAAAGCCUUUAAUUGCUUUAAUAUUAAGCAUUUCCAAACUAAGAAGUUUAAAUCAAUUAAGAAUAAAAUUUUGGCAUGGAAAAAUGUGAUGAAAUCAAUUAAAAAGUUGAGACAUAAUAAGAAGUUUUGAGUCGUAAUUAGUCCUUCUGAUUUGUAUAGACAAAACAUAUAAUACACUAAUAAUAAUUAGUUUGGCAUGAGAAUGUGGCAUCUAAUCAAUCUUAAAAAUGAGAUGACACUGAAUAAUAAUUAGUUAUGAUUUGGGAAACAAAAAUGUUAAAGCCAUUGCUUUUAAUGUAAACUAGUAUGAUUUUUAUCUAUUGGGUUAAUUAUUUAUUUUUAUGAAAUUAUAGUGUAAAAUUUAAAGAUUAUUUUUAUCUAUUACAAAUCAAACUCUUUUAUGAAAAAAAUAUUUUAAAUUAAAGAAACAAAGAAAAUUCAAUAUCUUCUAAGUUAUUCCACUCCAAAUAUAAUCUUCAGUGAAGAAAUCUUGAAGAUGGAAGAUGGAACCUUACCAGAUAAUUGAUUGAAUCCCAAGCUCAAGGACUCUAGAUUAGACAUGUUAACAAGUGUUUCAGGGAUUGUGCCUAUAAAGUUAUUAUUUUUCAUUUUCAGCCUUCGAACUCCCUGUAAGUUCCCAAGCCAUGAUGGAAUUUCCCCAUUAAGACUGUUGUAUUUUAAUCGAAGGAUCCUCAAACGAUGCAAUUGGCCCAAUUCUUUAGGGAGAUGGCCAUAGAAAUGGUUUCUACUCAAGUCGAGAGAGAGUAGAAAUGAAAGAUUUCCAAGGUGUGGAGGGAUACUACCCCUAAGAUUCAUGCUUUUAAGUUUGGAAACAAAUUCAACACAAUGUUUUUGGAGUUUGGAAAAAAUUAAAGUGAAAAACAUACCUUCUAAUUUGUUGUCAGAUAGUCCUAUUAUUUCGAGCAUAGUUGAAUUAAAAAUACUUGAUGGAAUCUGACCUGCACAUAUAGUUGAAAAUUGAAGUGAAAAACAUACCUUCUAAACUGUUCAACUAAAAAAACUUUAAGCAUAUUUGUUUUUCCAUCAAAUUAACUAUUUUGCCUUGAAUGAAAUAAAAUGCUCUUACUUUUGUUAUUUAUUACUAAUCAAACUCUUUUCUAAAAAAAAACUUUAAAUUAAGAAACUAAGAAAAUUCGGUACCUUCUAGGUUAUUAAACCCUAAAUAUAACUUCUGGAGUCGUGUUAGAUUUCCAAUACUUCUUGGAAUGAUACCCAUAAAUUGAUUAUAGGACAACGACAAAUUUUUAAGGUUGUUGCAUUUGCCCAUGCCAAAUGGAAUGUUACCAGAUAAUUCAUUCCAACUCAGGUAAAGCCCUUCAAGCUUGGGAAGAUGUUGACACAUAUCAUUAGGCAAACUACCUAGGUUAUUGUUGGAGAGAUCAAUGGUCUUCAAAGAAGAAAUGUUGAAGAUCGAAGUUGGAAUCUGACCUGUAAGGCCUUUAAUUGCUUUAAUAUUAAGCAAUACCAAAUCAAGAAUAUUACCGAUUUCCAAACCAAGAAUUUAUAGAAGAAACAAAUUUAACACAAUGUUUUUUGAGUUUGGAAAAUGUUAAAGUGAAAAACAUACCUUCUAAUUUGUUGUCAGAUAGUCCUAUUAUUUCGAGCAUAGUUGAAUUAAAAAUACUUGAUGGAAUCUGACCUGCACAUAUAGUUGAAAAUUGAAGUGAAAAACAUACCUUCUAAACUGUUCAACUAAAAAAACUUUAAGCAUAUUUGUUUUUCCAUCAAAUUAACUAUUUUGCCUUGAAUGAAAUAAAAUGCUCUUACUUUUGUUAUUUAUUACUAAUCAAACUCUUUUCUAAAAAAAAACUUUAAAUUAAGAAACUAAGAAAAUUCGGUACCUUCUAGGUUAUUCAACCCCAAAUAUAAUUCUUUGAGUUGUGUCAGAUUUCCAAUACUUUUUGGAAUGAUCCCCAUCAAUUGAUUAUAGGACAAUGACAAAAUUUUAAGGUUGCUGCAUUUGCCCAUGCCAAAUGGAAUGUUACCAGAUAAUUCAUUCCGACUCAAGUAAAGCCCUUCAAGCUUGGGAAGAUGUUGACACAUAUCAUUAGGCAAACUACCUGGUAGGCUAUUGCUGGAGAGUUUAAUAAUCUUCAGAGAAGAAAUAUUGAAGAUGGAAGAUGGAACCUGACCAAAUAAUUGAUUGAAUCCCAAGUUCAAGAUCUCUAGAUUAGACAUGUUAACAAGUGUUUCAGGGAUUGUGCCUGUAAAGUUAUUAUUCUUCAUUUCCAGCCUUCGAACUCUCUGUAAGUUCCCAAGCCAUGAUGGAAUUUCCCCAUUCAGACGGUUGUAGCUUAAUUGAAGGAUCCUCAAACGAUGCAAUUGGCCAAAUUCUUUAGGGAGAUGGCCAUAGAAAUGGUUGCUACUCAAGUCGAGAGAGAGUAGAAAUGAAAGAUUUCCAAGGUGUGGAGGGAUAGUACCCCUAAGAUUCAUGCUUGUAAGAUUCAAAGCUAUAACUCUUUUAUGGAGGAUGCCACAAGAAACACCAAUCCAAUUGCAAACAGAGGUUGAGGCCGUCCAAUUGUUUGCCAAGACAUUUUGAGGACCGGCAAUGCGAUCCUUAAACUCGAGAAGUGCAAACUGAUCGGAGUUGAGAUUCCUGACUGUCAUACCCCAGCAAAGUCCGGAACAUGGUAUGAAUAAAGCUAAAAGAAGAUGAAAGCAAGUGUUGUAGUUCAUGAUAGCAAGACGGAAUAAGCCAAGAAAAUAAAAAAAAGUAGGACAAGGGAAGUUGAGUUGAUAAAAUAGUUUGGAUGAUGAAGAAAAGCCCAGAGAGCAUGCUUUAAUAUGUUUUGAAGAAAUUUCAAAAUAAAUUUCAAAAUAAAUUUCAAAAUAAAAAUUUAAAAAGGAAAGCAAAGUUUUGAAGAAAUUUCAAAAUAAAUUUCAAGUCUUCUUCUUUAAAAAAUACGUACAAAGAGCGAAUUUUCAAAAUUUUUCCUAAAUUUUCUUCACAUUACUCCACAUAAUCCAUUAAAAAAACUUAAAAAAUAUAUUUUAUUAAUUACUAUACAUUCUUUUAUUUUCAGAAUAAUAAAUUGUUUAAAAUUUGCUAUUAGUCCCUAUAAUUUAAAAGUUAAAAAAAAUUCAAUCCUCCUACUUUUCUAAUUUAAAAAUUUUAGUUCAAUCAAUUUUAAUUUUAAAAUCUCUGUAUAAAAGGUGUUUUUUUUGUGACCGAUCACACUUAACCAAUAUUUAAAAAUUAAUAAAAAAUAUUUUUUUUUGAAAUUUAAAGUGAUCUAAAAACAUAUUUUUAAGUGCUUUGGACCGUCUAUUGUUGAUUUCCUUAUUAUAUUAAGUGUUUGCAAUCACUCCUAAUAUAUUGUGCUUGAGUUGUGACAAAGCCGAUCAUCAAAUUGCCAUAAUGAUCUAUUGAUGCUGAAAUUGAAGUUUUUGUUAUAUUGAUAGAGCUUGUCCUUCAACGCGUACAACGUGUUUGUUAUUUUUCUCCCUUCAAAUUGUAUGAUCUUAUUCAUUAAAUGAAUUAAUGAAUUUCCCUUUUAAAAAGAUAUAUUUUUAAAAAUUAAAUACUUUAUAAAAUAUUUAAAAAUUUGUAAGCCUUAAAACAAUCAACAAAAUAUUUUUGAAAUUUUAUAAAUAUAUUUUAAAACUAUAGUAACGCUACAAAAUAUAUAUAUUUACUAAUUAUAUGCACCUUUUUUAUUUUUAUUUCCUAACAUAUCAUUAUUUUCAACACUAUCGUAAUCCUGUUUUGAUAAUUCCCUUUCCAUACAUCCUUUUUCUACAUAGAAUUUCAAAAGAAAAUGUGAAUUAAUGUAAACGUGAGAAGACUUAAUUACAUUUAUUAGUUUAUCAAUCAAAACUUAAUUAGAAUCCAUCAAUAUUUCACACAUCAAAAACCCAAACAUAAAAUUCACUUUUAAAUUAUUUGAAGAUACAUUUGUAUUAUAGGAAAUCGAUUAAAUUAGUCUUUUAUUAUUAAAUGUAUUAUUUUAAUCUUUGUAUUAGGUAUGAAUGAUAUCUCCUAAAUUGAAGCCAGAGCUAUUCUUGAAAGACUGAAAUUAGGAUUCAGAUGUGUUGAGAUGGAAAGUGACAACACAAUGUUGAUUGAAACUAUUUGUAACAGGUUGACUACAAUAAGUAGUGCUGCCGAAGUAAGACAGAUUCACGAUUGGUGUUCCAAAAAUUGGGAAGUCAAAUUUAGACAUAUUCAGCGGAAUGCCAAUAAAGUUGUUGAUUGCAUAGCUAAGGCAAAUGGAGGCGUAAUUGAGCAGCUGGUUAUCUUGGAAGAUCCUCUGCAUUAUGUGAGAUGGUAGCUUGAAGAAGAUAUUAGACAGUCACUAGUGACUGAUGAUAAUUUUCAUUUGGACUGAUGAGCGCUUAAUUUUCUAAGCUUAUGUUCAACAAAAAAAAUUUUAACUACGUUUAAAUUGUAAUAGAGUUAACAUUUAGUGUUUAAAAAAUAUCUUAAAAAUUAUUAUUUUUUCCAAUUGCAGUUCAAUUCCACAAAUAUCGACGAUGAAUCCGGACAUAAAAAUUAUAGAAAAAAAACACAUCUAUUAUCAAACCAACAAUCCAUGUCUAAACUUAAAUUAACAAAAUUUGCCACGCAACGCCCAGUACACUAUUAUAUAUAUACUAGAUUUAUUCUAGAUGCACAUGUUUUAUUAUAUUUAAAAUUUAAAAUAUAUGGUUGACUAAGUGUUAGUUGAGUUAGUAUUGCUAUUAUUGUCAGUGUAAGGAAAUGUGAGUUUAAUUGCGCUCAAAUGUGUUUUAUCCUCCAAUUCAAGGGUUAGGAAAAGGUUAUUGAUAAUUAAGUUAUACCAACUUUUAUGAUAUUAAAAAAAGGAUUUAUAAAUAAUAUAAGGAAAAGAAAGAAAGAGAAACAUAUUCAUAUUGAUGGGCUCUUUCAAUAUUAGACUUUUUUUUCUAUCACAAGUAAAAAUAUCAAAGGUGAUAAUAAUUAAAUUAUAAAAUUUAAAUUGAGAAAAUAGGGGAUUGAGUUUAUAAGUUUUAAAGUAUAAAGAAUGAAUAUAUAACUAACAACAUAUUUUAACCACAUAAUAAAAGUAGUUAUGGUAAAAUAAUGACCUGAAUAAUUUUAAACGUCUCAUCCUUGCAAAAAUGAAAUAAUAGAAAAGAAAUAAGUGUUGGGUGUAGUGGCAAUGUACAUCAUACUUCUAAGGGGAGAUUAGGGUUUUAGACAAGGGAAGAAUUUUAAACUUGCUCUUUUCUCUAGAACUCAACGCAAACCUCAAAUUUAUCUUUUUAAAAGAAUUUAAAAAUAUGUAUAUAAAAGGUGAUUUUUUUACCGAUCACACUUAACAAAAUUUUAAAAAAAAAUGAAAUUUAAAGUGAUCUAAAAACAUAUUUUUAAGUGCUUUAGACCAUCCUGUGCUGAUUUCUUUAGUAAUUUGAUUUGUUCAAUAUAGAUUUUGGUAACUUAAAACAAAAUUAAUAAAAAAUUAUUUUUUUAGAUAUCUUUUUAAUGUUUAAUAAUAAGUUAAUUUAUAAAAUAUACUUUCAUUGGACACAGGGCCUCCAAGGCGGUGAACCACUAAUCAAAUUAAUUUUGAGAUACUUAAAUUUGUUUUCAUCAAUUAAGAAAUUAAAAAAAUUGUUGAGACCUCAUGAUUAUGUUUUAUAAUUUCAGGCUUAUCAACUAUUUUGAAAAACAACAAAACGUCUUACACCAAAAACUAAAAAAUAAAAACGUCGACAUUAAAUUUGUUGGCAUGCAAUCAAUUUUAAGAUGGUUUUUGGAGUUAUAUAUCACCUUAGCAUUGACUUACUUUUCUACAGUUUGUCUUCUCCAACAAGUUAAAUAUUUCAAUUUUAACAACAUUGACAGGUCUUUGGGGUAGGGUCGAGCAAAAUUCAAUAAAAACAGAUGAUAUAAGUUGAGUUGGCUCGGCCAAGUCGAGUCGAUUUGUUCAAAUUAUUUAAAUUAGUAAAUUUUAGGGUGCAAUUAGAAUUUUUUGUUUUGAGAUGCUAAUUAGAUUAAAAAAUUUCAGUUGCUAAAACAAAAAAAUUGUAUUUAAAAAGGCAUAAAUUAAAUAAUUAAGUUUUUCGAGUUUCCAUUUAAUCAAAGGUUAAAAGGACUAAAUUGAAGCUUUUUAUUUUUAAGAAAGGCUGAAUGACAAAUUGCCCAAAGCCCAUGGCCCUAGCUAUACAACUAACUUUUCUAUGAUUAGUCCUUGGUUUGCUUUGGGUGAAAUCUUCCAACUAGCCUCAUCCUUGGUUUUACUUUCCAACAAUUAGUGUAUCGCGGGUUUUGUUUUCUUUAAAAAAUAUUUGUGGAUAUUAGGAGAUAAUGAAAAUUAUUUUACUAUGAAAUUUUAAUAAAACUGGAAAAUAAGUAAUUUAUUUUAAGAGAUCACAAUUAAACGUUAGAUUUCCCCUUUUUAAAUUAUAAAUUUUUUUUUGACAAUUGCAUAAUAUUUUGAGCGUUGUAGGAAUGCCAUAAUAUAACCUUCCCUACGCAUAAUCGACUCUUGAGCAUGAUGGAUCCUAGACCUUCUCCUCUAUUCUCGUACCACAAAUUGCUUCAAGUGUGGGUUCGAACAAUCACAAAUUAAACGCAAAACCAAAAAUGAUUUAUUACUUUCAAUAGCAAAGUAAUUCUCUCUCAAUAGAAACCAAUAGAAUUGUAAUUCCUAGAAAAUAAAAUUUAUUUUUUGAAAAUAUAUUCUCACUACUUUCUAGCAGAAUAACAAUAUGUGAAACUUAUGUCUUGUGUUAAUAGCUCUACCAGUACUAUCUAUUUAUAGGGAGAGACACGAGAAUCCUGGUUGAAUUAGUAAAACACGAAUAAUAUUUAUUUCAUAGAAAACAAUAUUCCACCCUAAGUAGAUCAAGUUUGUAUGACGCAUGGAUCAAAGCUCAAUCUAGGAGAAAAAAAACAAAGGAAUUUUCUUUGUAAAGAAAAUUUGAGAUUGUACUAUUUUCAAAGUUAUAAAUAAAAUUAUACGCCAAAUUUUCAAGUCAAUUUUCAACUCCAAUUUUGUAUGCACAAAUUUCUAAUACACUUGGUGGGACAUUCUUUGACUUUUAUCUAUUCUCUCAAAAAGUUAAAGUUCAAAGUUACAUUAAACUCAAAGAAGAUAUUCAUUAGUAAACCACCUCACAAGCCUGCUCAAGCUAAUCCUACAACUCGUUCCACUUCAUCAUCAAACACCAAUAUUCUUGCUUAUCCUUAUGGAAUUAAACAGUCUCAUUUUCUGCAUUUUGGGUACACACUUAGUUUUGUUUGAUGCUAAAACAGUCCCCGAGCACUCCAAAACCUAUAAUUGAACAAAUAAUACUAAUUUAAUCUUACAUAACAUGAUCCCAAAUUGAAAUUGUAUCGAGGUUUUAACCCAUAAGUGACUAAACCUUACCUUCAACCGAUGAACAGUAAUUCCCACACAAACUAAGACUCCAAUUGGAGAUUACGAGCCAUUGAAUCCUCCCCUAAUUGGCAUAAACAAAACACUUCAAAAGAAAGUUAACAAAUGGAGACAAAUCACUUAUCUAAAACUUACCGAACGAUCACAGAAAAACGUGGAGUGACACGAGGCAGAGUGGGAAAAGAAAAAUCAAGAGGAUGAAGGGUGAAAGAGAGCAAAAAUUCGGUAGCAAUGAAGAGAAAAACAGCAAGAAAGUGGAGGGAUUUUAGGGAAAGUAAAAAAAAAGAUGAAUAGAAUAUUUGAUAACUACCCAAUCCCUUAUUUCUCUCUAUCAAACUCCCCACUAAAUCCACUACUCGAAUUUUUAGUCCAUCUCAAACUCUCCUGGACGCACGAGCAAAAAAUAAUGACCAUGCCAAAAUUUAAACAAAAGACCUCCUUCACACCAACACUCCACUUAUCCACCAGACCAAUAGGCUCAUUCUUUUAAUUAUUUUCCAACUUUUACUUAAAAGCCUACUGACCAAAGAUAGGGCUUAUUCAUAAAAAUACCAAAUUUUGCCCAAGACCUGGCUUGAACUUGGGACCUCUCAAACACACCCAGAACACAUAACCACUAAAGCAGACAGAAAUUUUGUGUCACACAUUCACAAUACCCAAAAUUAAAAUUUUAGGGCGUUACAAAAACACAUUAAACAAUAUCGCAUAAAACAAUCACAGUCAGAUAACAAUUCAGAAUGUCGAUUUUACAAUUUAACCACCAAUAGUAUCAUAGUAUUCACAGUUGUAAUUUCAGAAUAUCAAAUUUCCACAUCAUUCACAAUAUUCACACAUAUAUAAAUAUAUCAUAAUAGAAUUCUAGAUUUGUAUGCACAUGAUUUAGAAGAUGCCAUACAAUUUUGGGUUUUAACAGAAUAAAUCCUACCCCACAUUACAUACCAUAAUGGGAGUUCCCCUAAACUCCCUUCUCCAACACACUAGGUUGUGGAUAAACCACUAUUGGUUCACAAAUAAUAACUGUCAUUUGGCUGUGGACACAUAGCAAGUCCCCGCAAUUGGAUUCUAGAUUUGGUUGUGGAUUCACAGCAAAAAAAUCCUACAAAUGAAGCCUGCUUUUGCCUGUAGAUUAUACAACAUAUACCCGCAGUUGGAAUCUGUCUUUGGCUGUGGAUGCAGUGUAACACCUCAAACUCGACCUAGACGUUAUGGCUAAAUCUUAAUGAUUUACUUUAACUCGCUAGAAAGCCCACGAAUUUACUUUAAAAUCAUGUGGUUAAACUAGUGUUCACUUUGAUAAAUCGUUUUCCAGUUUUAGAGAAAAUUCUUGUUAAAACUGUUACUUUAUUACAAUAAAACAUUGAAGUAAUUGUAUCAUUUUGUAGUGGAAUCUACUAAGCUAUAAGGUUUUGAAAAUCGUGAUUUAGUUUGAAACAAAUCAUUUUGCAAAUAGAAAUUUAAUACUACUUAAUUUGGAAAAGCACGCUAAAACGAAAGCAAAGUCCAAAAUAAUUUACGGUUUGAAAUUCUAAAAAGCCCAAAUUAGUCAUAAAGUCUAUUUAAACCAAUUUAUCGAAAGUGUAACACCCUAAACCCGGCCUGUAUGUUAUGGCCAAAUCUAGAUGUGUUACGAAAAAAAGUUUAUAAAACGACUUCCUUGUUAUUGGCAAAUCAUCGUAGCCAUUAUUACUUAGUAUAUCUGAUUUGUUUGGAAAACUUAUUGAUAUACUUAUUUGAUUUAAAAUCGUUGCUCACUUACGCCUUUUUAUUAAACCAAAUAUUUUGCAGCGGAGUUUCUUUAAAACAUCAUAUUUUGGAAAAUCAAAUUGUUUCUUGAAAAUCGUUAUUUUAGAAAAGUUGUCAUUUUCAGAAAAAUUAUUUUAUCAGUUGUUAUGCUGAGAAAACAAAAUAAAAUCCAAAACCAAAAAUAGUCCCAAAAAGUCUAGAGAGUCCCAAAAUGACAAUACUCUUAAAACUAGACAAGUUUAAACUAAUUUUAAAAGAAUGAAAUUUUACAGAAAUGUGGACACCACUGAGCUUCCGUCGCACCGACCCACCUAAAUCUGAGGGUUACUUGAACAGAAUAAACAAACAGAGAGUGAGUUUUGAAACUUAGUGUCUAACGCGUAUAUAAACAAAAAUUCAGAAUCAAUCUCAUGCAGAACAGAUACAAGUGUAAACCUUUUAUAAAAUUAGAAUUAUACAGAUACAAAUAUGCAACAUCCUACCCUCAUCCUCUACACACCAACUCCGACCAUUCUAUCACACCACGUGGGGUAUAAAAUACCCACCCAGCCCUACACACCGUAUAGUAUUUAUAUGACACUUUUUGGAAUAAUCGCAGCAGAGUUGCCAGUAUAUAGGCGAGAUAUCACCUCACACAGAACACUUCCUCCUCAUAAUACAAAUCCCGCCCCAUAGCCAGAUACAGACAAAAUAUCAUGUAAAAUAAAUUAACAGAUACUAGAGUUAACAUAUCACGCAUGAGCGUAUAAUAGAUAUUACACAUGCUUAUGCAUAACAAAAUAGAUCAUACAUAUUGUAUUCCAUAAUACUCAUAUAAAUGUUAUUUACGUCAAUCUCAAUCUAAUAGAGUAGCUGAUUUCAUGCUUUAACUCUUAUACCACACAUACAGACCCUAUAGAAGGCCCACAGUUGAUCGAGACAACAUGUAUGUCCCUAGGGAAAAAAUUUGUAAUUUGGGCCCAUAUGCAUGUAUGAGCCCACACACCCAAAAUGGCCUUGCCCAUGUGGCUCACCUACCUAGCACUCAGCCCAUACGGUCCAAAAUGGCCUAGGUCGUGUGUCACACACAGCCGCAUGUUGCACACAGCCUACCACAUAGCGAGUCACAAAACCGUUUGGAGUUGACAAGCCUAAUUUUUGGCUUUCGUCAAUCGUCAUUUUCUUACGUUUUCAUUACACACUUGGUUUGAUUCUGACCCAAAAGCAACCCUAAGUCCACCGAAACCUAAAAAUAGCAUUCCAAUGCCCAAUUUCAGUGAACAUUUACAAAACUUAAACAAAAACUAUCCAAAAACAUAGCCUCACAAUAGCAUCCAAUGCACUCGCACACUUACCGUCAACGAAUAGGAAACACCCAACACUCAAUUCGUUGGCGGAGCACCAAUUAUGAUAAUGCAAAAAUUUUAUGGAUUCUCAACACUAUCGAUCCAAAUGUAAGAUUGAUGCUUUCCAAUUAUGAUAAUGCAAAAAUUUUAUGGGAUGGUUUACAUGAAUUUUUGUUGUUGUCAACGAUCAAUGUAUUCAAUAAUUAAAAGAAAAUAUUAGUCGUUGUUAGAAAACCAAUACUAUGAGUGUUGUAGUUUAUUUCAGUAAAUUAAAGGUUUUGUGGGAUGAACUAGACAAUCAUGAACAAUUGAUUUAUUGCAAGUGUGGACAAUGUUUAUGUAACUUAGGGAAGACGGAUGAACAAUGUCGUGAGCAUGAUCGACUUCAUCAAUUACUUCUUGCUCUCUAUUCUAAUUGUUAUGCUCAAACUAGGUUUACAUUGUUUUACCAAGAUCCUUUGCCUUCCUUAAAUCAGGCAUUCCAACAAAUUACUUAGGAGGAACAUGUACGUGGAAUUACACUGAUUAAGGAAGAGAAGUCUGAUAUUUUAGGCUUUGCUUUGCAUACAGAAGGUCAUAACAAAGGCCGAGCUAAUUGUAUUGAUAAGUCAACCUUGUUGUGCACUCAUUGCUAUCGCAAAAGGCAUGAGAUGGCUACCUAUUUUGAAUUACAUAGCCACUUGGAUUGGCGGCUUAAGAAGUAUGGGAAGCCAGAGAAGAAAAGUGAUGAUCGUGGUGGUAAGACAAGUGCACAUCUUCCACGUAAGUAUUUUAUUUCAAAGGAUCACAAUUAAACAUUAGAUUUCUCAUUUUUAAAUUUUUUUUAUUUUUUUAACAACUACGUAAUUAACGAGUACCAAUUUUGGGUGUUGUAGGGGUUCUAUAACUUUCCCUAUAUGUAAUCGACUCUUGCACCCUCUUUUUUUCUCUAGAAUUCAAUGCAAACCUUAAAUUUAUCUUUUUAAAAGAAUUUUAAAAUCUCUUUAUAAAAGACGAUUUUUUUAGGUGACCAAUCACAGUUAAGAAAAACAAAUCGGUGGCAACUCCUUUCUAAUAAAUGUAAAAAACUUUUUAAACAAAAUAAGGUUGAAAUAAUCUAGUUGUCGUUAUACUUUGAUAAAAUUUUAGAUUUAGUCCUUAUACUUAAAAGGUUAAAAAUUAAGUCUUGUUUUUAUUUAAAAAUCUUAGUCCUAUCGUUAAUAUUGUUUUUUUUUUGUCAAAAUUUGUCAAGUUGACAUAUUAAUUAGGUUUCUCUUAUAUAUCGUGGUAUAUGACUAACACAAAAUAAACAAGUUGACAAAUUCUACAAAAAAUAUCAAAGAUGAUAAUAGUUUAAUUAAAAUUUUUAAAUUAAAAAAGUAAGGGAUUAAAUUUAUAACUUUUAAAGUAUAAUGAAUGAAAUUAUUGAAAUACAAGAACUAACAACAUAUUUUAAAAAUAUUACUAGUAAAUUAUAUAUCUACAACAAGAAUUGUAACCUCUUAUAUUAUAUUCUUGUAUUUAUUUUUGCAUCUUUCAUAAUAUGAUUUAUUAAUUUUAAUAUUUUUAUAGAAUAAUAUGCUUUAAAUAGUUUUUUGUAUCAUUUAUAAAAAUUAUAAUAAACUUACAAAAUAAUUUAAUGAUAUUUAAUUAUUAAUCGAAAAAAAUGAUAUCAUAUAUAUUAUGUAUAUAUUAAGAUUCCAAAUCAUUAAUUAUAUAUCUACGCAUUAUAAUAAAUUCAUCUUUCAAAAUUUUCCUUAUAAUUAAAGCAUAAAUUAUAUUUAUAAUAAUAUAAAUAUAUUCUAUCAUAAAUAUUCUUUCAAAUAUUUUUUAAUGUUUAAUAAUAAGUUAAUUUAUAAAAUAUUCUUUCAGUAAAUUAACGUGAUGAGAUCGUUAGGUGCUUGGAUUUGGUGAAGGGGGAUGAAGAGAAAAGGGAUGGAAGUGAAUAAAAAUGUUGAGAAAUGGAAAGGGUUAGCGAGGGAAGCCGCCAUGAAAGGUGGUUCAAUGGAUAUGAACCUUCAAGCUUUUGUGGAUGAUGUUACUCAAGGUUGUUGCAAGUAAAUUUAAAAAUGUUUUUAAAUUAUUUUUUUGUUAAAAAAACAUUUUUUACUUUUUUAUGUGGCAUGCCACAUUAUCAUACUAUCAUGUGACAAUUUCUGGUGAUUUCUGUCCGCAACAUUAGUCAAAUCAACUGUUAAAUCGUUCAACUCACAGUUUUUGUUAAAUGAAGAGGUUAAUUGAUUUUUUUUUGGAAUCAUUGAGUACUCAAUUGGUGCACUUUUUUCAUAAAGGCUAAAUUAAUUUUUUAAUUUGUUAUUGUUGAAGGCUAUAGCAAUAAAAAAAAUUGAGGUAAAAAAAUAUUAGAGCUAAAUUUGUCAUUAUGCCUAAAAUGUAAAACCAAAUUUUUUUGAAAAUGAAAAAAAAUGGAAAAUCGCAAAUUCCGUCGCAUAUUUUUGCUUAAAAUUAUAGUUUUGGUCACCAAUCUUUUGAAGUAAAUAUAGGUCACCAAUAUUAUCAAUUUGUUACUUUGUAAUAACUCACCUUAAGUUAUACCCCGACGCACGAAAGGAUUAAAUGACAUUGGGAUACCAUCAAACUUGUAUCUUAAAUACACAUUUACCCCUAAUUUUAUCACAUUCUUCUUAAUUGGUAUUUAUGGUUUAGAAAAUUUUACAAAUAUAUUAUUUUUUAAGAAAUUAUAAGAAGAUUACAAAAAUUCCAAAAUAAUAUAAAAAAGCUAAGGAAAACCUAGAAAUUCAAAAAAAAAAACGUGGACAUUGAAUUUGCUGUUUCACAUUAAAUUUUUGGAGAAGUAGAAUUUUCUAACUUAUUUUCCAUCAACUUCACUUCAAUUUUCAAUCACAAUCUAUUGCAUUCAAGAGCACCACAUCUUUUGGGAUGAAACAAACCUCUCAAUUUUAAGAUAAACGGAAUCUAUUGCAUUCAAGAGCACCACGUCUUUUUGGAUGAAACAAAGCUCUCAAUUUUAGGAUAAACGGGUCUUUAGGGUUAUAAAUUGAGGUCCUUUUCCACAAUUGCGGGUGAUUCGUUGAUAAUAACCUCAACAUUUCUGUAUCACAUUUAAUUCAAUUCCACAUUCAAUUUUUAGUUUUUAGAGAGAUGAUUGGGUUACAACAAUGGUUUGAAGUGAAGAUAUUUCAAAACAAGAUGAAUACUCUACCAAUAGUCAUAAUUUAAAAUGCAGGUUAUGUUUCAUUUCAGCUAAGUUAAAUGUUAAGAUUGAGGUUAAACCUUUUAGAGGUUGCUCGCAAAAGGAUCAAACCUUUAUAAAAUUGUUUAAAUGAAGGUCAAACCUCUUAAAAUAGACAAAUAAGGGCCUAACCUUUUAAAAGGUGUUCAAAUAAGGGUUUCUCAAAUUUUGUAUAUCAGGUUAUGUAUUUUACUCUAAACACAUCGACAUUUACCUAUUUUUUCUAUAAAUUGGGUUGAAGUGCAUGAAAAAACCUUAUUUAAGCACUUCUGUAAAGGUUAAACUCUUAUUUGACUAUUUUGAAAGGUUUGAUCCUUAUAUAAGCAACCUCUAAAAGAUUGAGUACUAAUUUGACAAGAUUGAGAAAUACCUAAAUUUGUUUUCAUGAAUCAAGAAAAUAAAAAAGAAAUGUUGAGAAAUAUUUUAGAGAUUCUUAGCUUUGACAAGUUCCCUCCAUCAUCUUCCUGCCUCCAGUCCCACCUCUUCUCUUAUGCUCCUCCCAGCUUCUUGCUUUUUGUGUGUUGAAAUUUCAAAGGAACAAAAUAUCAACCUACAUCAUAAGGCACGAUUGCCAGAACUUUACUUUCUAGCCUGUCGAUCCGAUCCAAUGAAAGAAGAACAAAGAGUCUCAAGAUCUGUCAACUUUAUUUCAUUUUCAUUUUCUUUGUCAUUUUCUAUGUUUCAUGUCGAAUACAAUGAAAGAACAUAGAAAAAUGUUGCCUAUUUAUUUCCCAAUCAUCAUGAAAUUACUUGCCAUAGACUUAGAAUUUUCUCACCAAUUUUCAAGCAAUCUGACAUGAUUUCUCAAUCACAAUUAAUUGAAUUCAAGAUCUUUUUAGAUGACACAAACAUUUCAAUUUUAACACAAACCAAUAUUUAGGUUGUACUUCAGUGCUUGACAAGCACUUUCACAUUUGUGGGAUAAGAACUCUUAACAUUUUAGGAUCACAUUUAAUUCAAUUGCAUUUAAGACCUCACGAUUUUAUUCUAUAAUUUCAGUCUUAUCAGCCUUUUCGGAAACAAUAAAACGUCGACAUUAAAUUUGUUGUUGAUGCAUUCAAUUUUUUGAGGGGUCUUUGGAGUUAUAUGUGACUUUAGCAUUGACUGACUUUUUUAUAAUUAAUCUUUUAUAAUAUAUCAAUUUUAAUAACAUCGACAUGUUUUUUAGUAGGGUCUAGCAAAACCCAAUUAAAACCGAUGAUAUUGGCUUAGUUGACUCGGUCAAGUCCAUUAGAUUGAUAAAAUCAAUUUUAAAAUCAGUUAUAAUGGAUUAAGGUAAUUAAUUAUCGAGUAAUGAAAUACAUAAUCAAAUCAAUUGAUUUUGUUAGAAACUAAAAGAAAAUGAGAUAAGCUGAAAACUGAUUGCCCUUUAUUAAAAUUAACGAAUCCGCCCUUUACGUAUUAGAUAAUACGAACAUCACAUAUAUAAUAAGAAAAAUUACGUAUGAUUAUUUAUUAUCAUAAAAGGUUAGUUUAAAUUUAAAGUAAUCUAAUAUGUUUAUUGAACUUCAACUAUUAAAUAAAGUAUAAGCUAAAUAAGUAUAAAUAUUCUAGAAACCAUUUCUAACUGAUGAUAGGCUAAUUCGAUUAAUUUAUAAAAACUACAUAGUAGGGUUAUAGUCCUCAAACUACACCUAAUUUAAUAAUAUUUAUAGUUUUUUUUUUAGCCUUAAACAUUUAUAGUUUUUUGUUAAUUUGGUCCUUACUCUUUAAAAUUACAUAAAAAUUGCAAAAAAAAUUAAAAUUAAUUUUUUUUCAUAAUUUUAAUAACAUUUAUAGUUUUUUUUUUGUGUGUGGUUUGGUAACUUAUCAACUCGACUCUCACUUGUAACCAACUUUUCUAACCUUUUUCGUACCCUUAACCUAAGUCCCGUUACAACUUUCUAAAGACCUCUUUAUCAGUGUAUCAUGUCGGUUUGUUUUAUAAUGGUGGAGAUUUGUUUUUUGUAGUGGCACGAUUGCCAGAACUUUACUUUCUAGCCUAUCGAUCCGAUCCAAUGAAAGAAGAACAAAGAGUCUUAAGAUCUGUCAACUUUAUUUCAUUUUCAUUUUCUUUGUCAUUUUCUAUGUUUCUUGUCAAAUACAAUGAAAAAAGAACAUAGAAAAAUGUUGCAUAUUUAUUUCCCAUUCAUCACUCUAACAGGCCCAAUUAGCCCAGGCCCAAACAUUAAUAAAAUGUCUAGAUUACAAAAUAAUCAACUAAAAAUUAAAAGCUCAAAAAAUAAAAUAAAACCCAUUAUAUUAACCCAAAACCCCAGCCCAAUUACAUUGAAACCCAAAAAAAAAAUAGUUUUCAGAAACCCCUAGGGUUUCAGAAGCCCCUCAAUGUUAUUUUGUAUAUCUAUUUAUCUUUUUAAAUUUUCGAUAUUGUCUUGUUUUGUUUUUGUAUUAUUGUUGUUACCAUCAUUAUUCAUUAUUAUUAUUGUUGAUUUUAUUGUUCUUUGAUUAAUGUUAAUGUUAGAGUAAUAGAUGUUAUGUGAUCAUUGUUAUUAUAUGUUAUAAUUUGUUUACACUCGUAUUGUAGUCAUUUGUCAGCUUAAUAUUUUGAGUAAUAUUUUAAAUAUUACAUUAAUUUCGACCCAAAUGCAUAAUUUUUUAAUAAGUAAUAUUUUAUAUUUUGAAAUUUGAGAGAUCAUUCCCUAACUUACGGGGUCUCAAUUUUUUCGAUAAAUCUGAAUAUACUAACUAUUUUCAAAAAAUAUGUUUUAAAAUUAUCUCGGGAAUUUAAAAAGGAGCGUGUUCUAACUUACUGAAUAUGAUCUUUUUUUUAAAAUCGAGAUAAUCAAAUAACUUUCAAAUAAAUAAAUUUUCAAUGUUUAUUCUCAUAUCAGGAUUUAAAAUAUUAUAUCCUAACUCACGGGAUACAAUUCUUUUUCUCGAUUAACAUGAAAUAUGCCCGUUUUAAUUUUAUUUUUUAAGUGAUUUUAACAAAAGGAUUGUAUUUUAAAUCUCUUCAAAAUUUUCAAUUUUUCGACAUUGAGACAUUAACUAAUCAAUUAGGUACCAAUUUUGGGCGUUACGAGGGUGCUAACCCUUCCUCAUACGUAACCGACUCCCGAACCUAUUUUUCUGAAUAUUGAAGGCCAAAAUUGUUUUAAUAAAUUAAACCCUUAAGACGUGACCCCAUCACACCUCAUAAAAAUUAUCGGUGGCGACUCUCGUUUGCGUUUUUGUUUUCGUUUUCAAAAUAAAAGUCGACCCCUUGUUUUAAAAAAGGUGGUUCGAUAGCUUGGCGACUCCGUUGGGGAAAAAAAUAAGAGAGUCAAGCCACGAGUUGAUUAUUUCUUAUUUUUUGUCAGAAAUUGUGAAUUCGAUUUAAAUUUACGAUCUUUUCAUUGCAUUUUAUGGUCUGCAUCAUUUUGAUAUGCUUGCUUUACUGGUUCGAGUCUUUUAAUCUCCGCAUAUUGCAUUGCAUAACCGUUCGGUUAUACCCUUUUAAGUGGGAGUGAGAAACUAUUCAUUUGUGAGAUUUUUACCUCCGUAUAGGAUAGUGGAUUACUUUCGGGAUACAUCCGUACCUAUGUCUUCGUGAGAUUUUCAUCUCCGUAUAGUUAUAGGGAAAUGUAUUCCCCUGAACUGAACUCAGUCCGUAUGAGCCUAUAAUAGGUAAGGAUUGAGGAAUCUGCUGGUUCAGGUACCCUUUCUUUAGAACUAAACUGCAUGUAGUGAGCCCUAAGAGCAUACCGUAGGUAGAACCACUCCAAACCCCUAGUGGUCACCCAAAUAGGUGCUCUAUUUAUUUUUGCUUGCUUAUUUUUGCAUUGUACUAACCUAUUUUUUUGUUAUGAUUGCAUUGCAUUUUCAUCAUAAAAAAGAUGUGUUGAUUCACGUUCAAUUGCUAAAUAGAGAGCUUGUCAUGGAAAACGGAUUUCUUGAUAAAGUGGAAGACAAUGUGGUUAUCCGGAUAUGGUCCAAGAAAAUUUGACGAAAGAAGGGUGAUAGUCUAAUGGAGGACUACACGACCUUGCUUUAUUGCCCGAGGAUUCAAGUUGACAAAGAUUAUUUGAGAGUCCUCAAUGUCCCGACCUUUUUCAAGAAGCUAACGAGUGUCACGAGGAUGAGUGAGUAAUGAGUUGCGGCCCGGAUCAAGCAAAAAAGAGAUAGAGGAGACACCCUUUUUGAAGAGUUCGCGAGAUUUAUAUUAAUAUCAAAAUGAAGAAAAAGAUCAAUGUCUUCGCCUGGAGUAUGAAAGCAAAGCUGUAUAUAUAUCCGCUUUAUGUAAAUAAAUUUGUUUUCUAGUAAAGUUUUUCUAAUAGAAUUGAAUCAGAAUCAAUGUCUUUUUUUGCAUUCAUUCCAUUCAUCUGCAUUGCAUUUCAUUGCAUCCAAAAUUUCACAAAAGGACCCUAAUUAAUUGAAAUUGUUAUAGUUACUCUGAAAACUAAUAAAAAUCUACCAAUUAAAUAUUCCUACGGUACCCGUCGCAAAACCAAAGUAAUGGAUCAAAUAUUAGAAAGAUUAGAACAAAUUCUGAAAGACAAGCAUAAUCGUUUUUGCUUAGGGUACAAGCCAGAUACAAGACAAAGAAGGAAGGAGUUAGAGAAGAAAUAGGAAAGAAUGACAGCAUAUUUGAGCGAGGAUGAGGUCAAAUGGGAGCCUAUGAACUUUCCCUACAUAUCCAAAACUUUUGUAUCGGGAGGGAUUAUUCAUCCCGAGCGAAGAAUGCCAAGAGAAGAAAAUAUUGAAGAAAUGUUGGGAAACGUUCACAUCAAUGCCAUAUACGAAGAAGUAGUUGAAGGAUGGACCUUGUUAGAUAUCCGACCUUAUGAACCUGGGAGUGUGCUAAACAAUUGGACUACAGAAGAAAUUCCUGUAGUGUUUAGACCUUACUCAGAGUAAUAUUCAAAACACACUUGUUGCUUUUAGCCUAGAAGUGAUAAGAAUCCCUCUGUGAAAUAGGCUCAUGUAUAAACAUCAUUAUUUUAAUAAAGUAAAUCUUUGCAUUCAUUUUGAGCAAAUAUUCUUUUAUUCUUUCCAUACGAGUAAUUAUUUUAGAUUUUUCAUUAUUUUAGGAUUUUCUUCCAAAAAUCAUUCUUUUAUUACAUUCAUAAUCAUACUGUACAAAUAAUUAUUCUUAAAUUCAUUCAUUCUUUGUAUAUUCUUUUGUACCUAUAAUAGGUCCCUAGAUAUCAACGACAUGAGUGACGCUGCUACAGACUUAGAAUUUCCUUUUAAACAAGACAUGUGUUUAGAGGGAUCCCAUGACUUUGAAGAUGACGUAGACUGUGGCUUAUCUCCGGACUUGUUAAGGAUGGUAAAACAAGAGGAGAAGCAAAUCCUACUUCACAAUGAAUCAAUGGAAAUUGUGAGCUUAGAAGGGGAAAAUAGGUGAAGAUUGGGACUGACAUUGCCACAAAUACGAAGUAAGACCUCAUUGAGUUACUCUAAGAAUUCAAAGAUAUUUUUGCAUGGUCAUACUAGGAUACGCUCGGGUUAAGUACUGACAUUGUAGUACACUGCCUUCCUAUAAAAGAAGAUUGCUAGCCAGUUCAGCAGAAACUCCAGAGGAUGAGGCCUGAUAUUGUGCUAAAAAUAAAAGAAGUCAAAAAGUAAUUUGAUGUUGGGUUCUUACAAGUGGUCAAAUAUUCAGAAUGGGUAGCCAACAUCGUCUCAGUUCCUAAAAAAAAUGGGAAAGUACGAAUGUGCAUGGAUUACAGAGACUUGAACAAGGCCAGUCGAAAAGACAAUUCCCUAUUGCCUCACGUUGACACUUUGGUGGAUAAUACAGUAGGCUACUCACUUUUUUCCUUCAUGGAUGGCUUCUCUGGAUACAAUCAGAUAAAGAUGCAUCCAAAAACAUGGGAAAGAUUACAUUCGUGACCCUGUAGGAAACGUUUUACUAUAAAGUGAUGACAUUCAGAUUAAAGAAUAUGGGAGCGACGUAUCAAAGGGUGAUGGUAACCUUGUUUCAUGACAUGAUUUACAAGGAAAUCGAGGUUUAUAUUGACGAUAUGAUUGCAAAAUCUAGAACAGAAGAGGAACAUGUGCAGGUCCUGAGAAAAUUAUUCUUAAGACUGAGAAAGUUCUAGCUCAAGCUUUCCAACGAAAUGCACUUUCGGAGCUAGGUCAGGAAAGCUAUUAGGCUUCAUAGUCAGUGAAAAAGGAAUCGAGAUCAACCCAGACAAAGUCAAGGUAAUAAGAGAUUUACCUCCACUAUGCACUCAGAAGAAAGUUCGAGGUUUCCUAGGAAGACUAAAUUACAUUGCUCGGUUUAUUUCACAACUAACCGAAAAAUGUGACCCCAUAUUUCAUCUUUUAAAGAAACAUAAUCCAGAUGUAUAGGAUGAAGAAUGUCAGGAAGUUUUUGAUAGGAUAAAGCAGUACCUAUCAAAUACUCUAGUGCUGUUACCACCUAGCCCAGAUAGGCCACUGAUAUUGUAUUUAACAGUGUUUGAUAAUUUUAUGGGAUGCAUGCUAGGCCAACAUGAUGAGACAGGAAGGAAAGAAAGGGUUAUAUACUAUCUCAGUAAGAAAUUCACUGAUUAUGAAAUAAGAUACUCGUCUAUUGAGAAAUUAUGUUGUGCCUUGAUCUGGAUAACUCGGAGGCUAAGGCGGUACAUGUUGUACCAUACGACUUGACUAAUUUCAAAGUUAGACCCUUUAAAGUAUAUGAUGGAGUCAACUACUUUGAAUGGGAGGAUGGCCAGAUGGCAGAUUUUACUUUUUGAAUUUGACAUACUUUAUGUGAGCCAGAAGGCUAUAAAAUGGAGUGCAAUAGCGGAUUUUCUAGCUAGCAGAGCCUUGGAGGAUUAUGAGCCUUUAAAUUUUGAUUUUUUGAACGAGGACUUAAUGUAUGUGGCAACCACUAAAGAAAAUGCUCAAGUGGAUCGCAUUUGGAAGCUAAAAUUUGACGGAGCCUCAAAUGCUAUGGGUAAUAAAAUUGAGGCAGUCUUAGUAUCCCCGAGCAGAGAUCAUUAUCCUAUUGCUGGCAAAUUGGAUUUUGAUUGUACAAACAAUAUAGCAGAAAAUGAAGCGUGUAUUAUGGGCAUCCGUAUAGCCAAAGAAUGUAAAAUCAAAGUGCUAAAGGUAUAUGGGGAUUCUGCAUUGGUGAUAUAUCAGCUCAAAGGAGGAUGAGAGAUAAGAGACCUCAAAUUGAUUAAUUAUCGAAAGUUUAUUCUCGAAUUGAUUGAUGAGUUUGAUGAUAUUACUUUCUCCUAUCUCCCACUAGAUGAAAACCAGAUGGCUGACACGUUGGCUACUCUAGCUUUCAUGAUCAAAGUAAACAAACUAGAAGACAUGAAGCCUAUCCAGAUGAGCAUUUAUGAGACUUUGGCUCAUUGCUACAGUAUCGAGGAAGAGGAAAAGGAUGAUCAUCCUUGGUACCAAGAUAUACUGCAAUAUGUAAAGAAUCACGAGUACCCUGAUCAGGCAACGAAGAAUGAUAAGAGGACAUUGAGAAGACUAGCCACUAACUAUGUCUUACAUGGAGAGAUUUUAUACAAAAAGGGAAAGGAUCGGGUACUACUAAGAUGCUGGAUGCUAUAAAAGCUUAGAAAAUCUUGGAGGAAGUCCAUGAAGGUAUCUGCAAAAUGCAUGCCAACGGUUUCACAAUAGUAAGACAGAUUAUGAGAUUCGGGUACUACUGGUCGACCAUGGAAGGAGAUUGCAUCAAUUAUGCCAAGAAGUGCCAUAAAUGUCAAAUUUAUAGAGACAAAAUACACGCACGUUCUUCACCUCUCAACGUUAUGACUUCUCUAUGGCCUUUCUCUAUGUGGGAUAUGGAUGUCAUCGGGCCAAUAUUGCCAAAGGCUUCUAAUAGGUAUCGUUUCAUCUUCAUGGUCAUUGGUUACUUCACUAAAUAGAUGGAAGCUGAUUCAUAUGCUAAUGUCACGAAGUCAGGAGUCAGCAAGUUCUUGAAAAGGGAGAUCAUAUGUUGAUAUAUAAUGCCUGAAAGAAUCAUAUCUGACAAUACAUUGAAUUCGAAAAAUAGCAAAAUAGCGGAGGUCUGCAAUCAAUUCAAGAUCAAACACCAUAAUUCGUCACCAUAUCGCCCAAAAAUGAACGGAGCAGUGGAGGCGGCCAACUAAAAUACCAAGAAAAUUGUGGGGAAAAUGUCUGAGACUUACAAAGAUUGGCAUGAAAAAUUACCAUUUGCCCUCUUUGUUUAUCGAACAUCAAUCAGGACUUUCGUCGGGGCAACGCCUUUCUCUCUAGUUUAUAAGAUGGAGGCAGUUUUACCCAUUAAAGUUGAAAUCCCUUCUCUCUGGGUAUUGGCUGAGCUAAAGUUGGAUGAAGCUGAAUAGAUCCAACCUCGAUAUGAUCAGUUGAACCUAAUAGAAAGAAAAAGGCUAAAAGUUAUUCACCACGGUCAGAUGUACCAAAAACGAAUGAUGCGAGCCUACAACAAAAAAGUUCAUCCCAAAGAAUUCUAUGAGGGGGACCUAGUGUUGAAAAAGAUUUUUCCUCUACAAAAGAAUUUUAGAGGAAAAUGGAUGCCAAAUUAGGAAAGACCUUAUGUUGUAAUAAAGGCCUUUUCUGGAGGAGCAUUGAUUUUGAGUGAGAUGGAUGGUAAAAAUUUUCCUAAUCUUGUAAACUCAGAUUCAUUCAAGAAAUACUUCACCUAAAGAAGGAGAAGGGACCAAUGUGAAAACCUGCAAAGGGCACUUUGAGUCUUAAAAAAAAGAGACCAAGGUGAAAACCGCAAAUGGUGUCUUAAGUCCUAAAAAAAAGAGGCCAAGGUGAAAACUAGCAAAGGGCGCCUUGAGACCAAAGGGGAUUUGAGUUGAAAACCCGAAAAGAGCGACUCAAAUAUUGAUUAAAAUGGGGCAUGCAGUGAUCUUGCUAUACUUGAAUUAAUAGGAAAGGGGUAUACGACAUCUUGGGGCAUCGACAAAGUACUAUAGAUCUCCUAAACACAUUUCAAACUCAAAAUGGUCUUUAGGAAGUUUGUACAGAGAAAUUCAAGCUGCGAUGUCUAGGGCACCUAGUCUUCAUACUAUUUAUAUUAAAUUUGCUAUUCUUGGAAUACUUUAUUCUUUUCAAGAUACGUGUUCCCAAUCAAUUCCCUUUUUAUUCUUCUUUAUCCUUGAUAAUUUAUUCAUUUCGAGCUAUGCUCCAAAUCAAUUCUAUUCUUAUCCAUUGUUAUUAUCUUUUGCAAGCAUGUUGUAUUGGAAUAAUGAUUAAUAGACUAAUAAUACUUUUACAAAUAAAGUGCUGUAUAUUACUCUAAAAGUUUCUAAAUAAUACAAGAACCUAAAACAGGACUAUUGUUUAGAACGCACCGGGUUUAAAGGUUAGAAAUAUCUGAGAAGGAAGAGUCCAAAUUAAGACUAUCCCUUCGAAUUUUGUUGUCAAAAUAUUGAUUGAACAAAACGACAAGAUAUCGUAUUGGUGAACAAACGAGCAAUGAUCACCAGGUAAUAAAAAGAGGUUAUUUUGGAAAAAAAAUUACAUUGGUACGACACCUUAGGAAUGGUGUAAGAGACCAAAGAGGUUCACAUCUUGUAUUCUUGAAUUGCAAUAGGAGAGGAUUGAGAAAGAGCUAGAUAUUAUACUCCUGAAUUAUAAUGGAAGGGAAAUGGUACAAAUUUUAUGUACCAAAAGUACAGUGGAUUGAACCUUGAAGAUUACAGUAGGGGAAAUCUGAUUAAGUAAAAUAUGAAGUGUUUCUUUGGAGAUACCAGUCGAACAAGAUGGCAUUAUGACGUGUCGGUGAUAGAGCCUUAAUGAAUAAUGAGCAAUAACAACUCAAGCAUUAAGGGAUCAUUUUCAUAACAUUCUGUAUUCAUUCAUACACAUCUAGUUAGGAGAUUUUGAUUCAUUCCGAUCAUAACAUCCAAAUCACUAGACAUAAAUAGGCCCAUGAAAUGGAUUCUACAGGUCAUGUUCCCCAUAGAACAGAUGGGUGAAACCACAAAUCCUAUACCGCUGAAGUUGCAGUGGGAUGGAUUGAAGUCAUUAUGGCGAGUCUUAUCUCCCUGAAGUUGCAAUGGAGCAUAUUAAAGCUAGUAAUCUUAUCUCCCUGAAGUUGCAGUAGAGCGGAUUGAAGUUACAAGUCUUAUCCCCCUAAAGUUACAGUGGAGCAGACUGAAGAUAGUGAAUCUUAUUUCCCUGAAGCUGCAGUGGAACAAAUUGAAGCUAUAAAUUGUAGAUUUUAUCUCUCUAAAGUUGCAAUAGAGAAGAUCAUAUCAAACUUUAUCUCCCUGAAGUUGUAGUGGAACAGGUUGAAAAUACCAAUCUUAUCUCCCUGAAGUUACAGUGGAGUAGACUGAAGAUAGCGAAUCUUAUUUCUCUGAAGUUGCAGUGGAACGGAUUGAAGCUAUAAAUUACAGAUCUUAUCUCUCAGAAGUUGCAGUAAAGCAGAUCAUAGAAAACCUUAUCUCCCUGAACUUGCAGUGGAGUAGGUUGAAGUUAUAAGUCUUAUCUCCCUAAAGUUGCAGUGGAGCAGACUGAAGAUAGCGAAUCUUAUUNNNNNNNNNNNNNNNNNNNNNNNNNNNNNNNNNNNNNNNNNNNNNNNNNNNNNNNNNNNNNNNNNNNNNNNNNNNNNNNNNNNNNNNNNNNNNNNNNNNNNNNNNNNNNNNNNNNNNNNNNNNNNNNNNNNNNNNNNNNNNNNNNNNNNNNNNNNNNNNNNNNNNNNNNNNNNNNNNNNNNNNNNNNNNNNNNNNNNNNNNNNNNNNNNNNNNNNNNNNNNNNNNNNNNNNNNNNNNNNNNNNNNNNNNNNNNNNNNNNNNNNNNNNNNNNNNNNNNNNNNNNNNNNNNNNNNNNNNNNNNNNNNNNNNNNNNNNNNNNNNNNNNNNNNNNNNNNNNNNNNNNNNNNNNNNNNNNNNNNNNNNNNNNNNNNNNNNNNNNNNNNNNNNNNNNNNNNNNNNNNNNNNNNNNNNNNNNNNNNNNNNNNNNNNNNNNNNNNNNNNNNNNNNNNNNNNNNNNNNNNNNNNNNNNNNNNNNNNNNNNNNNNNNNNNNNNNNNNNNNUCAAAGGAACAAAAUAUCACCUACAUCAUAAGGCACGAUCGCCAGAACUUUACUUUCUAGCCUGUCGAUCCGAUCCAAUCCAAUGAAAGAACACAAGGAGUCUUAAGAUCUGUCAACUUUAUUUCAUUUUCAUUUCUUUGUCAUUUUCUAUGUUUCAUGUCGAAUACAAUAAAGAGAACAUAGAAAAAUGUGGCCUAUUUAUUUCCCAAUCAUCAUGAAAUUACUUGCCAUUGACUUAGAUUUUCUCACCAAUUUCAAGCAAUCUGACAUGAUUUCUCAUCACAAUUAAUUGAAUUCAAGAUCUUUUUAGAUGACACAAACAUUUCAUUUUAACACAAACCAAUAUUUCGGUUAUACUUCAGUGCUUGACAAGCACUUUCACAUUUGUGGAUAAGAACUCUUAACAUUUUAGGAUCACAUUUAAUUCAAUUGCAUUUAAGACCUCAUGGUUUUAUUCUAUAAUUUCAGUCUUAUCAGCCUUUUCGGAAACAAUAAAACGUCGACAUUAAAUUUGUUGUUGAUGCAUUCAAUUUUUUGGGUCUUUGGAGUUAUGUGACUUUAGCAUUGACUGACUUUUUUAUAAUUUAAUAAUAAGGUAAAUAUAUUAAUUUUAAUAACAUCGACAUGUUUUUUAGUAGGGUCGAGCAAAACCCAAUUAAAAUCGAUGAUAUUGGCUUAGUUGACUCGGUCAAGUCCAUUAGAUUGAUAAAAUCAUUUUUAAAAUCAGUUAUAAUGGAUAAAGGUAAUUAAUUAUCGAGUAAUGAAAUACAUAAUCAAAUCAAUUGAUUUUGUUAGAAACUAAAAGAAAAAGGGCUAAGCUGAAAAUUGAUUGCCCUUUAUUAAAAUUAACGAAUCUGUCUUUUACGUAUUAGAUAAUAUGAACAUCGCAUAUAUAAUAAGAAAAUUACGUAUGAUUAUUUAUUAUCAUAAAAGGUUAGUUUAAAUUUAAAGUAAUCUAAUAUGUUUAUUGAACUUCAACUAUUAAAUAAAGUAUAAGCUAAAUAAGUAUAAAUAUUCUAGAAACCAUUUCUAACUGAUGAUAGGCUAAUUCGAUUAAUUUAUAAAAACUAGAUAGUAGGGUUAUAGUCCUCAAACUACACCUAAUUUAAUAACAUUUAUAUUUUUUUUAGCCUUAAACAUUUAUAGUUUUGUUAAUUUGGUCCUUACUCUUUAAAAUUACAUAAAAAAUUGCAAAAAAAUUAAAAAUUAAUUUUUAUCAUGAUUUAAUAACAUUUAUAUUUUUUUUUGUGGUUUGGUAACUUAUCAACUUGACUCUUACUUGUAACCAACUUUUCUAACCUUUUUCGUACCCUUAACCUAAGUCCCGUUACAAUUUCUAAAGACCUCUUGAUUGGUGUAUCAUCUCGAUUUGUUUUUAUAGUGGUGGAGAUUUGUUUUUUGUAGUGGGCAUGAUUGCCAGAACUUUACUUUCUAUCCUGUCGAUCCGAUCCAAUGAAAGAAUAACAAAGAGGUCUUAAGAUCUGUCAACUUUAUUUCAUUUUCAUUUUCUUUGUCAUUUUCUAUGUUUCUUGUCACAUACAAUGAAAGAAGAACAUAGAAAAAUGUUGCCUAUUUAUUUCCCAAUCAUCAUUCUAACAGGCCGAAUUAGCCCAGGCCCAAACAUUAAUAAAUGUCCAGAUUACAAAAUAACCAACCAAAAAUUAAAAGCCCAAAUAAUAAAAUAAAACCCAUUACAUUAACCCAAAACUCCAGCCCAAUUACAUUGAAGCCAAAAAAAUAGUUUUUAGAAACCCCUAGGGUUUCUGGAACAAUCCGCGCCGCUCCUCCAUCCGCUUCUCCACGCACGCUGCACCUUUCCACGUGCGCCUCCAGCUGGCAGUGUACCUCCAAUGCAACAAACAAAGCAACAAGCAGCAAAAGAAAUGGAAAAACAACAAAAAAAAAAGAAGGAGCAACAAUGUAUAACAGAUUGAUAACAAAUAAUAGAAAAAAUAGCAGUAAAUAGGAAAAAAAAUUAAAAAAUAAUGAGGGUAAUUUCAUUUUUUUCUCUGUUUUGGCUAUAAAGAGAGCCGGUCAAAAUCUCUAAAGGGGGAUUUAGAAUCAAUCAGAAAACAAGUAUUUUGUACCAACAAUUAGAGAAAAAAAAUACAAAAAUAGGGAUUGAAGGUUUUUUUUUUCUUUCGUUUCGAUUUAUUUAAAAUAGCAUAGAAAAUAAAAAGAAGGCUUACCUUGCGACGCCUUCAGAUCCUCUCGAAAAGGGGCUAAAAGGCCCUAUGUGGCACAGAUUUGACCACUGUUCACGGUGGAACCGCAGCGGAGGCGCAGAGGAUUGGCAUCAAUUUAGGCAGGGUUUGAAACCCUAGCAGAGAAAAAAUUAGGGUUGAUAGAUUUUUUUUAAAAAAAUGGCAAAAUGUUGUUUUUAAAAAAUUUUGUUUUAAAAAAAUUGUUGCUUUUAUAAAGGGUGUAAAACGGCGUCGUUUAGGGCAUGUUUCGAUGGCCCCAAAACGGCGCCUUAUAAGGCAACCCCCGACGACCCGACCUGCUCCAUGGGGGAUCCGCGUGGUUUUUGUUAAAUGGGUUAUGUCUAACCCUGGCCCUUCUACUUUUUAUACUUGUUUUAAUUUGAUCCUCUUUUUAUUUAUUUUUAUUUCUUUAAAUUAAGCCUGAUAAUUUUUUUCCAUUACAUUUUAAUCCUUAAUGAAACGGCGCGUUUUAGAGGAGAAGGGAAAAUUACCCUUCUAGUCCCUUCUUGUUAUUCGAGUGUUCAGAAGGGUCCUUUUUUGUUUAUUUUUUAUUUGCCCCAAAAUUUUGUUUUAAAGCUUAAUUUAGUCCUAUUUUGUUAUUUUAGCUAUUUUAUUAUUAGAUUAAUUAAUUUAAUAUUAUUAUUACUGCUAUUAUUUUACCCCUAUUAGUUAUAUAUUUAUUAUUAUAACUAUAUCAUUAAAUCAAUUAGUUUUUACAUUAUUAUUUCCAUUCUGUUUUUUAUUUACUUACUUAAAUACUUUAAAUGCAUUUAUUUUAUUUCUUAUUUUUUUAUGAAAUUUCAAAACUUUAGACUAUUUUUUUGUUACUAUAACCCUAAUUUCAUUCAUUUUAUAAUAGUUUUUUUUUAAAAUAUUUCUUAGAUUAAUUCCCUCGAUGUUAUUUUGUAUAUUUAUUUAUCUUUUUAAAUUUUCGAUAUUGUCUUAUUGUAUUAUUGUUGUUACUAUCAUUAUUCAUUAUUAUUGUUGAUUUUAUUCUUCUUUGAUUAAUGUUUAUGUUAGAGUAAUAGGUGUUAUGUGAUCAUUGUUAUUAUAUGUUAUAAUUUGUUGACACUCGUAUUGUAGUCAUUCGUCAGCUUAAUAUUUGAGUAACAUUUUAAAUAUUACAUUAAUUUUGACCCAAAUGCAUAAUUUUUUAAUAAGUAAUAUUUCGUAUUGUGGAAUUUGAGAGAUCAUUCCCUAACUUACGGGGUCUCGAUUUUUUUGAUAAAUCUGAAUAUAAGAACUAUUUUAAAAAAAUACGUUUUAAAAUUAUCUCGGGAAUUUAAAAAGAAGCGUGUUCUAACUUACGGAAUAUGAUCUUUUUUAAAAAUCGAGAUAAUCAAAUAUCUUUCAAAUAAAUAAACUUUUCGUGUUUAUUCUCGUUUUAGGAUUUAAGAUAUUGUGUCCUAACUCACGGGACACAAUUCUUUUUCUCGAUUAACGUGAAAUACGCCCUUUUUAAUUUUAUCUUUUUAAGUGAUUUUAACAAAAGGAUUGUAUUUUAAAUCUCUUCAAAAUUUUCAAUUUUUCGACAUUGAGACAUUAACUAAUCAAUUAGGUACCAAUUUUGGGCGUUACAAGGGUGUUAACCCUUCCUUGUACAUAACCGACUCCCGAACCUAUUUUUCUGAAUAUUAUAGGCCAAAAUUGUUUUAAUAAAUUAAACCCUUAAGAGGUGACUCGAUCACAGCUCAUAAAAAUUAUCGGUGGCGACCCUUGUUUUAAAAAAGGUGGUUUCAACAGCUUGGCGACUCCGCUGGGGACAAAAAUAAGAGUCAAGCCGCGAGUUGAUUAUUUCUUAUCUUUUUGUCAGAAAUUGUGAAUUCGAUUUAAAUUUAUGAUCUUUUCAUUGCAUUUUAUGGUCUGCAUCAUUUUUAUAUGCUUGCUUUACUACUUCGAGUCUUUUAAUCUUCGCAUAUUGUAUUGCAUAACCGUUCGGUUAUACCCUUUUAAGCGGGAGUGAGAAAUUAUUCUUUCGUGAGGUUUUCACCUUCGUAUAGGAUAGUGGAUUACUUUCAGGAUACAUCCAUACCUAUGUCUUCGUGAGAUUCUCAUCUCCGUAUAGUCAUAGGGAAAUGUAUUCCCCUGAACUGAACUCAGUCCGUAUGAGCCUAUAAUGGGUGAGGAUUGAGGAAUCUGCUGGUUCAGGUACCCUUUCUUUAGAACUAAACCGCAUGUAGUGAGCCCUAAGAGCAUACCCUAGGUAGAACCACUCCAAACCCCUAGUGGUCACCCAAAUAGGUGCUCUAUUUAUUUUUGCUUGCUUGUUUUUGCCUUGUACUAACCUAUUUGUUAUGGUUAUGAGUGCAUUGCAUUUUUAUCAUAAAAAAGAUGUGUUGAUUCACGUUCAGUUGCUAAAUAGAGAGCUUGUCAUGGAAAACGAAUUUCUUGAUAAAGUGGAAGACAAUGCGGUUGUCCGGAUAUGGUCCAAGAAAAUGUGAAGAAAGAAGGGUGAUAGUCUAAUGGAGGACUACACGACCUUGCUUCGUUGCCUGAUGAUUCAAGUUGACAAAGAUUAUUCGAGAGUCUUCAAUGUCCCGACCUUUUUAAAGAAGCUAACGAGCGUCACGAGGAUGAGCGAGUAAUGAGUUGCGGCCCGGAUCAAGCAAAAAAAAGAUAGAGGAGACACCCUUUUUGAAGAGUUCACGAGAUUUAUCUUAACAUCUAGACGAAGAAAAAGAUCAAUCUCUUUGCCUAGAGUAUGAGGGCAAAGCCGUAUAUAUAUCCGCUUUAUGUAAAUAAAUUUGUUUUCUAGUAAAGUUUUUCUAAUAGAAUUGAAUCAGAAUCAACGUCUCUUUUUGCAUUCAUUCCAUUCAUCUGCAUUGCAUUUCAUUGCAUCUAGAAUUUCACAAAAGGACCCUAAUUAAUCGAAAUUGUUAUAGCUACCUUGAAAAACUAACGAAAAUUUACCAAUUAAAUAUUCCUAUGGUACCCAUUGCAAAACUAAAGUAAUGGAUCAAAUAUUAGAAAGAUUAGAACAAAUGCUGAAGGAUAAACAUAACUGCUUUGGCUUAGGGUACAAGCCAGAUACAAGACAAAGAAGAAAUAGGAAAGGAGAACACGUUUGAGCGGGGAUGAGGUCAAAUGGGAGGGAUUAUUCAUCCCAGGCGAAGAAUGCCAAGAGAAGAAAAUAUUGAAAACAUGUUGGGAAACGUUCACAUCAAUGCCAUAUACGAAGAAGCAAUUGAAGGAGUGACCUUGUUAGAUAUCCGCCCUUAUGAACCUAAGAGUGUGCUAAACAAUUGGACUGCAGAAGAAAUUCUUGUAGUGUUUAGAGCUUACUCAUAGUAAUGUUCAGAACACACUUGUUGCUUUUAGCCUAGAAGUGAUAAGAAUCCCUCUGUGAAAUAGGCUCAUGUAUAAAAAUCAUUAUUUUAAUGAAGUACAUCUUUGCAUUCAUUUUGAGCAAAUAUUCUUUUAUUCUUUUCAUACGAGUAAUUAUUUUGGAUUCUUUAAUUCUUUUGGGAUUUUCUUCCAAAAUCAUUCUUUUAUUACAUCCAUAAUCAUACUGUACAAAUAAUGUAAUAGCCUGAAUUUUCAGUGGUGUCGGAAUGGUGAUUCAAGAUCACUAAGUCUGACAAAUGAGUAGAAAAUAUUAUUAAUUUAGUAAGAAUAAGUAAAUGUGAAGUUAGGAAAAUUUUUGAAAUAGUGAAUAGUGUACUAGGAAUAAAUAUUAAAAUAAUUAAAAUAAAAAAUGAGGUAUCGAGACCUCGAAGAUUUUAAACCAAGCCAUAAGUACUUUUAGAAGUAUUUUUAGAGUGUCAUUGAGUUGGUAUUAAAGUUUCGUUAGAAAAUUUUAACGCUCGGAUAGUUAAUUAACCAAAAAGGACUAAAUUGAAAAUAGUGUAAAAUUUGUUAAAUUGUGAUUAAAUAGCUUAAGUGAUUAAAAAGGAGGGAUUUAAAAGGCAAUUAGGCCCAAAUUAUAUGGGCUGGACGGUUGGGUAAGAAAAAUCAGCAGAAUGUAAGGAGAAAACAGGGGCAAAAUUGGAAACUUAACAAAUUAAACAUAUAAAACAAAGACAAAAGUGAAAAAUCUAGAGAUCUGUUCACAAUUUAUCAGCAAAAAUGCCAUAGGAGGUCUGAAAGAAGCUGGUUUUUCAUAUAUUUGAAUCAUGUAAGUUUAAUUCUUGAUUAUUUCUUCUAAUUUUUGUGAUUUUGAUACUUUUACAAUUAGGUCCAACUAAUUAUUUCAUUAGUUUUUGAUUUCAUGGCUGAUUUUGAAAGUUACCAUUGAUGAGUGUUGGAUUUUUAUGAUGAAUAAACAUGGAAUUAAAGCUUUAAUUUUGUUAUAUGAUGAUUUUAUUAAGUAAUUUUGAUAGAAAUUGAUUUUUGGGACCUAAUUGUGAAAAAGUUUGGAAUUAGGGUUUGGUGUUGCGGUUUUGAAUAUGAAAGGCUAUGUAGUAGUCUAAAAUAGUUGGAAAAGGUGUUAAUUGAGAAAAAUUAGAUCAAUUGAGGGGUUAAUUGAGUAGGACCAAAUUGUAAAAACUGUAAAGUUUGAGGUAAAAGUGUAAUUUCGAAAAUUUAAGGGCAUAAAUUGUGAAGUGAAUUAGAAUAGAAUUAUAUGCUGAUGAAUGAAUAAAUUUGUAUUUUAGAUCGAGAACCCGAAGCAAGCCGAGGAAAAGAAAAAGUAGUUGAUUAGUCCCUGAACUUUUACAAAUUCUGCAAAUCGACCCAGGUAAGUUCAUAUGGCUGAAAUUUAAUGAUUAAAUGUUAAUUUCAUGAAUUAUGUAAUGUAUGAUGAAAUGUAUUUAGUGUUGAAAUGAGAGUAAAAUAAAAAUGCGAAAAUCGAAUAAAUGAUCAAAUUAAGCGGAACGCCGGAUUUGAGUACUUCUGAUCAAGAGACAAAGUGAUAAGUGGUAGCUUUAGCUACACUUAUCUGAUCAAGUGAAAAAGUGAUAAGUGCUACACUUAUCUGAUCAAGAGACAAAGUGAUAAGUGGUAGCUUUAGCUCACUUAUCUGAUCAAGUGAAAAAGUGAUAAGUGCUAUACUUAUCUGAUCAAGUGACAAAGUGAUAAGUGGUAGCUUAGCUACACUUAUCUGAUCAGGGCCAAAUGAUAAGUGAUCAUACGUAAGACCAUAGUUAUACUAUGGCCAAGUGAAAGUGAAGUACUCAAUUUUCCGUAACCGUUCCUUAAUUUUGAUCAAGGAUGGUAAGUGACAAAUAGGCCCAAAGAAAUUAUGGUAAAAGAAUAAGUAGUAGUGAGUUUAUACCAAGGAACUCUCCAAAGAUUGUGGUUGACAAGUAAACUUAGUAAUGGUGUAUAUUGUAUAAGUGUACAAAUGUUUGGUAAGAUUUAUGUUUGUGCCUAUGAACUUACUAAGCUUUUCUAUAAGCUUACAUGUGUGUGUUUAUUGUUUUUCUAGAUUAACGUAUUUAUACAUUCGGAGGAUCGGAUCUACUUCGAGAAUCACACUAUCCAGAUAUACUCCGGUAGAUUUUGUUAAACAACUUUUUGGAUUUAUAUGGCAUGUACAGAGAAUUGAAGUAAAAAGUAAUAGAAUGAAUGACUGAGUAUGCAAAGUAAAUUUGAAUGUGAUGGUUGUGUUAGAUAUUGAAAAAUACAUGUUUUUAGUUUGAAAUGGUUGAUUGGCUGAACUUCGUUAGUAUUCAAGUGAAGUAGUUGAAAUACUGGAAUUGGUUGUGAUUUGAAAUUUGCAGGGAAGGUUAGAUAAAUAUAAAGGGGUUAUAUUGAUUUUUUUUUUAAAUUUCAAUGGAAUAAUUUUUGGACAGCAGCAUUGAUGUAACUUUUAAAAAUCACCAAAAAUAGUGGAAAUAGAAUUAGAAGUUGAAUGAGAUAUGAAAUUAAAUCUGAAUGAGUCUAAUUUCACAUGAAAGAAGUAGAAUAAGAAAAAGAGUUAUAUAUUUUUAGAUAUUUGAAUUUUAGUGAAACAGGGCAAGAAUGUUUUUGAAGUCCCCUGUUCUGACUUUAGAAAUUUAGUAAAAAUUGUACAAAAGGAAUUAUGAAUUAUAAUUUAUAUGUUUAAAUUCCGUAAUGAGUAUAUUUUAAGUAGAAAUAAUUGGAACCACCAUAUGAAGUCUUUGCAAUGAGAUAAUUGAAUUUUAGUGACAAGAGGUCAGGAUAGUCAAUUAGUGAAAUAGGGGAGACUUCAACUAAUAAACUGUAUUAAUUUGCUAAACCAAAAAUUCUGAAAAAUUUAUGGUGAAUAUACAUAUGAGUCUAGUUUGAGGGAAAAUUUACGGAUCUAAAUUUUUAGUUUCGUAUCUUGAGUUAUAAUUAUUUUAGUGACUACUGCGCAUGUGGACAGCUUUGUUGUGAAUGGUGAAAUUAAUUUUUAAAGUAAAUUUUUAUGCCCCGAACUUUUAAGUUCAGUCAAGUAACGCCUUAUGCUCGACUCCGGCAACCGUCUUGGGUAAGGGGUGUUAUAAAUAAUUAUUCUUAAAUUCAUACAUUCUUUGUAUAUUAUUUUGUACCUACAAUAGGUCCCUAGAUAUUAACAACAUGAGUGACGUUGCUACAGACUCAGAAUUUCCUUUUAAACAAGACAUGUGUUUAGAGGGAUCCCAUGGCUUUGAAGAUGACGUAGACUGUGGCUUAUCUCUGAAUUUGUUAAGGAUGGUAAAACAAGAGGAGAAGCAAAUCCUACCUCACAAGGAAUCAAUGGAAAUUGUGAGCUUAGAAGGGGGAAAAGAGGUGAAGAUUGAGACUAACAUUGCCACAAAGACAAAGCAUGACCUCGUUGAGUUACUCCAAGAAUUUAAAGAUGUCUUCGCAUGGUCAUACCAGGAUACUCCCGGGUUAAGUACUGGCAUUGUAGUACACUACCUUCUUAUAAAAGAAGAUUGCAAGCCAGUUUAGCAGAAACUCUGAAGGAUGAGGCCUGAUAUUGUGCUAAAAAUAAAAGAAGAAGUUAAAAAGCAAUUUGAUGUUGGGUUCUUACAAGUGGUUAAAUAUUCAGAAUGAGUAGCCAACAUCGUCUCAGUCUCUAAAAAAGAUGGGAAAGUACGAAUGUGCAUAGAUUACAGAGACAUGAACAAGGCCAGCCAAAAAGAAAAUUUCCCAUUGCCUCACAUUGACACUUUGGUGGAUAAUACAGUAGGCUACUCACUGUUUUCCUUCAUGGACGACUUCUCUGGAUACAACCAGAUAAAGAUGCAUCCCAAAAACAUGGGAAAGACUACAUUCGUGACCCUAUGGGGAAUGUUUUGCUAUAAAAUGAUGUCAUUCGGAUUAAAGAAUGUGGGAGCGACGUAUCAAAGGGAAUGGUAACCUUGUUUCAUGACAUGAUGUACAAGUAAAUCGAGGUUUAUGUUGACGAUAUGAUUGCAAAAUCCAGAACAGAAGAGGAACAUGUGUAGGCCCUAAGAAAAUUAUUCUUAAGACUGAGAAAGUUCCAGCUCAAGCUUUCCAACGAAAUGCACAUUCAGAGCUAGGUUAGGAAAGCUGUUAGGCUUCACAGUUAGUGAAAAAGGAAUCGAGAUCAACCCAGAUAAAGUCAAUGCGAUACGAGAUUUACCUCUACCAUGCACUCAGAAGGAAGCUCGAGGUUUCCUAGGAAGACUGAAUUACAUUGCUCGAUACAUUUCACAACUAACCGAAAAAUGUGACACCAUAUUAAAAUAAAAAUAGAUUAAAUUGUAAGUAAAACAUAAUUUAAACAUAUGAAUACAUCAAAUUAAUAAUACUAAAUGAAUACAGUUAUUUAUGAUGAUGUUGUUGCCAAUUCCUAAUUUGGUGUCUAGUUAAUUUGUGACAUCAUAAAUUUAAGUGAUAAAUUUAAGGUUUUAUGUAUUGAUGUGGAUUCAAAUAUCACCAUAAUUUUUGUAAAUAAAAAACUAAUAAGAUAACUUAUAUUAAGUACGAAAGGGUAUUUUUAUAAUUUCUCUAAUCGAGUUGGUGCCCGGUUGACUCAUGACACUAACUCAAUCAGAAGCUUUAAUAAUAAUAUAGAUAUUCAUGUUAAAAAAACAAAAAAAAAGUACUUUAGUUCCAAAUAAUUAUAUAACAAGUAAAUUUAUAAUUGAUGAAUAAAUUUAUAAAUAAUAUAUUUAUAUGAUCUAAUAUAUUAUAUUUAUAUUAAUUAUAUAUCAUCUACAAACUUUGAAGAUCAAUUUAUUAAGUAAAAAUGAAAUUGUUAACACUAAAUCAAUUUUUAGAUUUUGUAUAGAUGAUUUAGUGAUGAUAAAAACAUUAUUAACACUAUUUUUUAAUUAACAAAAAAUUAGUGAUAUAUUUAAAUUAUAUUUAUCAUUUAUUAUUUUUAAUAAUAUUUUUUAAUUAUAUGAAGUAAAAUUAUAUUGUAUACUAAAUAUGGUACAUAUACUCUAAUUAUAACUUGAAAUUUUAUUAUAUAAAUUAAUAUAAAUUUGAAUAACAAAAUAAAAAAAAACUAAUUAGAAUAAUUUUAAAAAACAUUAUUUAAAAGUAGUUAAAAAUCACGUGCAACAGGUGAGAUCAAUGGUCUUUAGAGAAGAAAUGUUGAAGAUCAAAGUUGGAAUCUGGCCUAUAAGGCCUUUAAUUGCUUUAAUAUUAAGCAGUUCCAAACCAAGAAGAUUACCGAUUUCCUCAGGAAUUUGACCUGCACACAUGGUCGAAAAAUCAAUGUGUCAAACUACCUAUUUUGUUAGCAUAAGUCAAAGAGGUUUUCUUUUCUAUUCUACAUAAUUUGCAGAUGUUAGAUUUUAAUAUUUUUAAGCAUAUUUGUUUUCAUCAAAUUAACUAUUUUGAACUAUUUUGCCUUGAAUGAAAUAAAAUGCUCUUACUUUUGUUAUCUAUUACUAAUCAAACUCUUUUAUAAAAAAAAUACUUUAAACUAAAGAAACCAAGAAAAUUCAAUACCUUCUAGGUUAUUCAACCCCAAAUAUAAUUCUUUGAGUCGUGUCGGAUUUCCAAUACUUCUUGGAAUGAUCCCCAUCAAUUGAUUAUAGGAAAAUGACAAAAUUUUAAGGUUGUUGCAUUUGCUUAUACUUGACGGAAUGUUACCAUAUAAUUCAUUCCGACUCAAGUAAAGCCCUUCAAGCUUGGAAAGAUGUGACACAUAUCAUUAGGCAAGCUACCUGAUAGGCUAUUGUUGGAGAGAUCAAUGGCCUUCAGAGAAGAAAUGUUGAAGAUCGAAGUUGGAAUCUGACCUGUAAGGCCUUUAAUUGCUUUAAUAUUAAGCAGUUCCAAACCAAGAAGAUUACCGAUUUCCUCAAGAAUUUGACCUGCACACAUGGUCGAAAAAUCAAUGUGUCAAACUACCUAUUUUGUUAGCAUAAGUCAAAGAGGUUUUCUUUUCUGUUCUAUAGUAAUUUGGUGAUGUUAGAUUUUAAUAUAAUUCAGCACAUGUUUUUCAUCAAAUGAAAUAAAAAGUUUUUCCUUUUGUUAUCUAUUACAAAUCAAGCUCUUUUAUUAAAAAAAUACUUUAAAUUCAAGAAAUCAAGGAAAUUAAUUACCUUCUAAAUUAUUAAACCCCAAAUAUAAUUCCUGGAGUCGUGUUAGAUUUCCAAUACUUCUUGGAAUGAUCCCCAUAAAUUGAUUAUGGGGCAACAACAAAUUUUUAAGGAUGUUUCAUUUGCCUAUGCUUGACGGAAUGUUACCAGAUAACUCAUUGCUAUGCAAGUGAAGCCCUUCAAGCUCGGGAAGAUGUUGACACAUAUCAUUAGGCAAACUACCUAAUAGGCUAUUCCUGGAGAGAGCAAUAGUCUUGAGAGAAAAAUGUUGAAGAUCGAAGUCGGAAUCUGAUCUGUAAGGCCUUUAAUUGCUUGAAUAUUAAGCAUUUCCAAACUAAAAAGAUUACCGAUUUCUUCAGGAAUUUGACCUGCAGACAUAGUCGAAACAUCAAGGUGUUAAAUUUCCUAUUUUGUUAGUGUAAAUCAAAGAGGCUUUUUAUUUUUUUUCGUUAUGAAAUAAUAUGGAUAUGUUCGAUUCUAAUCAUAUUUAAGUAUAUAUUAGUUCUUGAAAGAAUGAGUUCUUAUUUUUGGUAUUUAUAUUGCAAAUAUAUAUUUUUUUAAAUUUAAAAGAAGGGAGGGGGCAAAUGUGUUUAAACUAAAGACAUCAAGGAAAAGGCAUACCAAGUAUAAUUGUUUAAGUUGUGUCAAAUUCCCAAUGCUUUUUGGAAUGAUCCCACUAAAUUGAUUAAUAGACAAUUCCAAAAUUUGAAGGUUGCAGCAUUUGUCUAUACUUGAUGGAAUAGAACUUGAUAAUUCAUUUCUACUCAAGUAAAGCUCUUUCAGCUUGGGAAGAUGGACACACAAAUCAUCGGGCAAGCCACCAGAAAGACUAUUAUCACAAAAAUGAAUCCUUUUCAAAGAAGAAAUGUUAAAGAUGGAAGAUGGAACCUGGCCAGAUAAUUGAUUGAAUCCCAAGUUCAAGAUCUCUAGAUUGGACAAGUUGACAAGUGUUUGAGGGAUCGUGCCUGUGAAGUUAUUAUUUCUCAUUUCCAACCUUUGAACUCUGUGCAAGUUCCCAAGCCAUGGUGGAAUUUCCCCAUUAAGACGGUUGUAGCUUAAUCGAAUGAUCCUCAAACGAUGCAAUUGGCCUAAUUCUUUAGCCAGAUGGCCGUAGAAAUUGUUGUUGCUCAAGUCGAUAGAAAAUAGAAAUGAAAGAUUUCCAAGGUGUGGAGGGAUAGUACCCCUAAGAUUCAUGUUUGUAAGAUUAAUCAAAGCUACAACUCUUUCAUGGAUGAUGCCACAAGAAACACCAACCCACUUACAGACAGAGGUAGAGUUCGUCCAAUUGUUUGCCAACACAUUUUGAGGAUCGACAAUGCGAUCUUUAAACUCAAAGAGUGCAAACUGAUCGGAGUUGAGAUUCCGGACUGUCAUAGCCAAGGAAACAAUAGAACAUUGUAUGAAUAAAAGUGAAAGAAGAUGAAAGCAAGUGUUGUAGUUCAUGAUGGCAAGACGAAAUAAGCCAGGAAAAGGGAAGUUGAAUUGAUGAAGAAAUAGCCAGCCAACAUGCUUAAAUAGGCUUCAACCCUUGCACACUUCUCAUACAUAAAGUUCGCUGCCAUUACAACAAGAAAACUCAUAUCUCCAUUCGUACCUAUCCAUACUUUAUUUGACUAACUUUUCCCUAACAAGUGUUCAGUAAGGAGAUAAAUCAGUUUGGAGCUAUUCACCGGCUUCUCCAAUCUUGGUUUCAAACUCCUAACCCAUCAAUUCACUUUAAUUGAAACGAUAUACACGAGUCUUUCGGCUUAUAUUUUUAAUUUAAUUUUUGUUACUUUUCAUAAUAUUUUUUGAGAAAUCCAAAUAUUCCAGUCUGAAAUUUCUUCAUUGCCACGUCUAUCUCCUGGGUAAGUCCGUGGUUAGGCAGCCCACUUUGGGAGCAGGAUUGUAAUUGUAAUUCUAUCCGACUCAUUUUACUAUUUAGAAAUAUAAAAGUAAUAUUAUAUUAUUUUUUAUAUUUUUAUAAAUUUAAUUUUAAUUAUAAUUUUUAAACAAUAAAACGAGUCAUUUGUAUUUGCCUAGUCUAAAUUGAAUCAGGAGUCAAAAAAAUUUUAAUCAUAAUUUACUAUUAUUUUAAUUAAUUAAAAUUUAACCUACUACAACUAGUAGUUGCAGAAAAAAUGUCAUUCCUUUAGAAAAACGAAAAUCCUUUAGAAAAAUGAGAACUUAUGAAGCAUUCAAUAAGAGUCAUUGGAAUAAAUGGUAACGAAAUCAUAAUUCAAUAUAAAGCUAAAAAAUGUACCAAUCUAUAUAAAUAAUGUAAGAUUUGUGAUACCUAAAUUAUUAUAUUUUCCAUAAAUAUAUGAAGAUAUUUUAUUAGGAAAUAAUUUUAUAUAUAAAAUUUUUUAUUUUCUUUUGAUAGAAAUUUAAUUAUGUUAUCUGUAGAAAAAAAUAUUUAUAGAAAUAUUAUUAGUAGAAAAUCAUAAAUUUGUGUGUGGCAAAAAAAAUUCACCACCAAGAAAGGGGCAAAUUAAACAACUUGAAACAAGUCAUUGGUUGUUUAAAAUAUUAGAUAAUAAUUUCAGUGAAGAAUCAUUAAAAUUAUGACAAAAUAACCCUAGAUAUUGUAGUAUUAAAUUGGAAAAUCUCAAUAAUAUUAUUAGAGUAAAACCUAUGAUCUAUCUAAACAAGAUAUAGAAGAUUUUGAUAUACAAAUUAAGGUUAGAAAUCAUGCGGAAAUAAAAAAGAAAAAAAAGCUAGUAUGGUCAUUAAUUAUAAAAGAUUAAAUCAAAAUAUUAUUUUUUUAUAGUUACUUGAAUUAAUCAGGCUAAACAAACAAAAUAUUUUAGUAAAUUUGACUGCAAAUCAGGAUUCUAGCAAAUCAUGAUAACAGAAAAGUCCAAACCUUUAACGGCUUUUAGUGCACCCAAUGGACAUUACCAAUGGAAAGUGAUGUCAUUUCAAUUAUGUGAUGCACCACAAAUCUUCCAAAGACGAAUGGAUUUUAUAUUUAAUAAAUAUAAAAAAAUUCUAUGUAGUCUACAUAGAUGAUAUUUUUUAUAUUUUUAGAUACACUAGAAUUACAUAAGAAACAUUUAAAUAUUAUUUCUUAAGAAUUCAUAAAAUAUAGAAUCAUAUUAAACCCUAAAAAUAUAGAGUUAGAAAAAAGAGAGAGAAUUUUUAUAAUAGUGGAAAUAAAAAAUUGUCCUCAAAAGAUUGAAGAAAAAAAGAACUUCCAACAAUUUCUAAUAUAUUCCUCCCAAAUUUUCAGUUUCAAUUUUAUUACAGAAUUUCUUUGCCGACAAUAAGAAAUUAAGAGCGCUCUUUAAGUUGAAUAUAGUCCGUCAGAUAUGGCUAUCUAUAACAUGGAACCUUUGGUUUUCAAGCUGAAUAGGAGAAUUGAUUCACUUGAUAAGUAUGAAAAAUUGAAACUGCUAAAUUUAAGUGCACUAACUCUGGAUAUCAUCAUUAUUUUUCUGUACAUUAAAGUACCUGUUUGAUAUGCGAUUUCUGCCUCAAACUAUCAACAUCUUUAACAUCCUUUUGCUAUAGUUAGCAUGGGUACUUCCUUUUAGAUUAACAGUUAGGUUUGAACUGUGAAUUAGAUUUCUGUGGCUGCUGGGAUUGAAGAAGUUAGUAUGCGAAUGACAUUGGACAAAUUUGGCAAAGUCUUCUCCAUCAGUGAAGAAAACCCCUUGGCGUAUGAAAAAUGUUCACCAUCUUAGACAUUUGUUUUCUUAUUGUAAGAAUAUUUUUAACAUUGUAACUUUUAACAUUAUUGUAAGAAUAUUUUGAAUUAUACUUCAGUUAUCAAUUUAUAUCAUAUAUCUUUUGUUGAAUUUGAAGUAUAAUUUAUAUUUGCUGUUUUUGGUUAGAUUUCAUGCUAUAGGAAGGGUUGUAUAUGGAUAGAAAUUGAAUGUUACAAAUCUGCCAAAGUUAGUGGCGUUUUUUCAUAAGAGCUGCUAAAGAAUGCUAUUUUUGGCGGUGUUUGUAAUAAAAGAGCCGCUAAAGGUCAUGUUCUUUAGCGAUGUUUGUGGGUAAAGCGCCGCUAAAGAUCAUGUUCUGUAGCUGUGUUUGUGGAUAAAGCGCCGCUAAAGAACAUGACCUUUAGCAGCGUAUUUUCACAUAAACGCCGCAAAAUUUAGCGGCUUUGUCUAUAGCGACUUUUUUUGCAGCGCUUUAAGUUUUAGCGGCGCUUUUAGGCCUAAAAAAGGGCCGCUAAAAGCCUGUUUUGCUGUAGUGAGCAUAUUUACAUUUUCGUCCCAAUUUCAACUAACACCCCAUCUAUUUCCCACUUCCCUUUUUCGGGCAAUUUCAACUAACACCUUCAUAUCAAACAUAACUAUUUUUCAAUUUUUCUUCUUUAUUUCAUUAAUAAAAUUAUCAAUCUAUUUGUUUUUAAAUAUAUAAUUUCAUUAAUAUUUUUUAAAUUAUAAUAUAAGAGUUGUUGUUUAUUUAUAGUUUUAUUACAUUAUUUACUCUCUCUUUUCUAUCAAGUUUUUUAAAUUAUAAUAUAAGAUUUAUUUUAUCAAUUUGUGGCUUAUCCAGUAUUCAUCUAUUUUAAUAAUAACUUGAGUUCCAGUCAUUAUCAUACCAGAAAGAGUUCCAUUUAUUCUUUAUCGUAAAUUUUAUAAAAAAAUAUACAUUUUAUUAUAAUACUAUAUGUGUUACGAAUAAUAUUUUAUUGUGGAUGCCCAUAAUUUUCAAAGUUGUAACCUCUAAUGUAGUAACCUUAAUGAAAUUAUGAGGCUUUUAUAUUGUAAUCAAGCCUCUAUUUAUUCUUUGUAACUUAAACAGAAGCAUAUUUUCUAUUAUAUUGAUAUUUUUUAUAGAUAUAUAUAUAUAUAUAAGGAAUCAAAUAAAAAGUUAUUUACCUUUCUAUUAUAUUGAUAUUUUCUAUUUGAUUUGUUCUUUUCUUUCACUAUUCCAUAAUAUAUUAUCAGUACGAUUUUAACCAAGAGUAACAUGUUAUUAGAUUGUGUCAAAAUUUUGUUGAGAAUCAUUAGAUUGUUUCCUUUUUCUUCUAUUUAGCCCCAAAUUGCACCCCUACACAAAAUUCAACAAAAACAUGGAAAAAUUAGUGGUGCACUCUCAUAAAUUAACCAAUUUAAUUACAUAAAAUAUGUAACUUUAGCAUUUUAUCAAUCAUGUUCUUUAGCGGCAUUUGUGGGUAAAGCGCCGCUAAAGGUCAUAUUCUUUAGCAGCGUUUGUGAUAAAAGUGCCACUAAAUAUCAUGUUCUUUAGCGGCGUUUGUGGAUAAAGCGCCGCUAAAGAACAUGACGUUUAGCAGCAUUUUUUUACAUAAACGUUGUAAAAUUUAGCGGCGUUGUCUAUAGCGACGUUUUUUGCGGUGCUUUCAAAUAGUUUUAGCGGCGCUUGUAGGCCUAAAAAAAUGCCGCUAAAAGUCUGUUUUGCUGUAUGAGCAUAUUUACAUUUUCGUCCCAAUUUCAACUAACACCCCAUCUAUUUCCCACUUCCCUUUUUCAGCCAAUUUCAACUAACACCUUCAUUUCAAACGUAAUUGUUUUUCGAUUUUUCCUCUUUAUUUCAUUAAUAAAAUUAUCAAUCUAUUUGUAUUUUAAAUAUAUAAUUUUAUUAAUAUUUUUUAAUUAUAAUAUAAGAGUUUUUGUUUAUUUAUAGUUUUAUUAUAUUAUUUACUCUCUUUUUUCUAUCAAGCUUUUUAAAUUAUAAUAUAAGAUUUAUUUUAUCAAAUGGUGGCUUAUCGAGUAUUCAUCUAUUUUAAUAAUAACUUGAGUUCCAAUCAUUAUCAUACCAGAAAGAGUUCCAUUUAUUCUUUAUCGUAAAUUUUAUAAAAAAAUAUAUAUUUUAUUAUAAUACUAUAUGUGUUAGGAAUAAUAUUUUAUUGUGGAUGCCCAUAAUUUUCAAAGUUGUAACCUCUAAUGUAGUAACCUCAAUGAAAUUAUGAGGCUUUUAUAUUGUAAUCAAGCCUCUAUUUAUUCUUUGUAACUUAAACAGAAGCAUAUUUUCUAUUAUAUUGAUAUUUUUUUAUAGAGAUAUAUACAUAAGGAAUCAAAUAAAAAGUUAUUUACCUUUCUAUUAUAUUGAUAUUUUCUAUUUGAUUUGUUCUUUUCUUUCACUAUUCCAUAAUAUAUUAUCAGUACGAUUUUAAUCAAGAGUAACAUUGUAUUAGAUUGUGUCAAAAUUUUGUUGGACUUCAAGUAUUGGAAUUUAAUUGUUUAAGUUAAGAAUCAUUAGAAUCAAUGGCUAUUUGAGAUAUGCUUGAGGAUGAUCUCAUUCUAUUCAUCACAAAGGUGGAGGUUAGAAAAUCUUUAUGUUUAAACAUUUAUAGCUUUAAAGUUAUUUUAACCUCUUAUUGUGACCUUAUAAUAUUUUGUAAUUUUUUGUAUUAUGGUAUAUAAAAAAAAUCUAACCAUAGUGAUUGAUUAGUAAUAUGAAUUUGUUAUUUGUUAUGUUUAAUAUAUAUUUUAUUUAUACUUAUUCAUUUUAUUUUUAUAUGAGUAAAUGAAGUGUUUGAAGAUUCGAAAUUUUUAUCAUCCAAGUUGAAAAUAAGUGCAAAAGUGUACAUUAUUUAAAAUAAAUUACGCAUUCAUUAAUGUUAUAUGAUAAAAUCAUUACAUGUUCUAAAGAACUAAUAUUGCAUCAAACUGUAAAAAGCUCUUGAAGAGUUAAUAUUUUACCUCCUUGUGAUACAAAAUCAUAUACAAUAUGAUAUUAUUUUUCAAAUCGAGUAGAUAUAUGUUGAGGGAAAUCUUUAUGUGGUUUACAUUAAAACCAUGGAUAGAAAUGACAUGAGAUACUCGUGUAUUUUUAUUAUAAAUAUUCCUUGAAGGAAGACACUUCACUUGUAUGAUUGACAUAUGAGAUAGUGGCAAGAAGUUCAUAGUGUUGGUAUGGUCGUCUAGAUCAUCUCAAAUCAAUAAUGAUGCAAAAUAAUUUGAAGAGAAUUUAUAUGAUUUUAUUGAAGAAUGAGAAGAUAUUUUCAUUUUGAUAAUUGUCAUCAAUACUAGUUCUUUGGAAAAAAAAUAUUGAACUAACAUAAAGUUAGAGGUUGGUUGCAUUUUUUGAUGAUAUCCAAAUAAUAUAUGAGCUCAUGUAUCACAUGUAUGCAACCCAAAGUUUACAGUAUUAUUUCUUGAAAUAAUUUGAUUCUACACAAUCUCUAUAGUAUGCAAUUUGUGCUAACAACGUUGGUGCAUUAUAUCCUAAGCUUGAUUUUCGUAGUUUUAGCUGAGAUAAUAUUAAGUUGUCUAUGCCUAUAUAUGUUAUACUUAAUGGUUAGCAAAAUUGUGCCUCCAUUUAAUUGCUUAACCAUUAAUAUAAGAAUAACUUUAAAAUAAGCAUGUAAUUUUAUUUGCAUAGAGUCAACAUGUAAGAAACAUUUGCCCCAUGAGAAUUGGCUUUCAUUUAUAAGCCAAUAGGUUUCAUAUGACUAUUUGGAUGUAAAAUAUCUAUUUUAUAUUCCACCAUAAUGCACUAAGAUGGUCCAUCAAGUAUGAAGUUGAGAAAAUUUAGAAUUUUUAUUUGAUGGUAAAAGUUGAAAAGAGAUAUAUACUUAUAAUUUUGAAAAAAAUAGUCAUGUUGCAAAUUUUUCUCAAUAUUAGGGGGAGACAAGUUGGACAAAUAAGGAUAAUUAUGUCAUCACUUUUUGUGAUCCCUCACUAAUAUUAUGUGCACAAAGUUUGAAGGAAAAAAGUAUUUGCUAGACAUGUUUAGUGAUGACACUUAGAGAUUGUAUAUACUAGAUGAUACAUAUACCAGCUAAAAUGUUCCAAAUAAUUAUGAGUCCUAGAAGGACAUAGUGAUAAAAAUAAUUUUUGGGCACGCUAGAAGGAUAAAAAACUAGUUCAUUCUAUAAAUCAAAAAAUUCUUGAAAGAAAAGAGUAAGAAAUGAAGCUGGCCACACAUUAAAGGAAACGAGUACUCAUGAAGAGACCUAAGGCAUAACUUUUAAUAAAACCCCAAAAGAGGUUCAAUACAUGGAAUUAUGAAUAUAAUAAGAUAUCUCGAUUAGUUAUAUCAUAACUAAAGAUGAUGGGGUUGAUAAAAGGAAAUUGUUGUUAACAACGAUAAUCUAAGUAGAACAUUUCAAUAUUAUGGUAAAAUGAGUAUUUUGAAUGAAAAUAUACUUGAAAGUAUUUAGAUGGGAACAACUCAUCAAAAUAAAUAGACGUUUCUAUUAUAACUUAUGAAAUGUGUCUCGGACAUGAAGUCCAAACAUUCGACAGGUGUAAAGCCAAGUGGAGUAUAUGUUAGCAUAAUAGUGAAAAAAUACAAAUCAUAAUAUAUAAAAUUGACUUGUAAGACAAACUUUCCCAAGACACUUGAUUUUGAUUAUGAAAAAUGAUUAAUUUGUGAUCUUAUCAAUUGAACAUACUUUGUAUAAUCAACAAAUUAUUAAUUAACCUCAUUUAACCAAUUUCCUUCAACACAUUUCAAAUCAAAUUAAUGUGUUGAGCACGCCCUUAACCCUUUUUCUUGAUUCAUUGCAUAGUCUAUUUCCAAGUACCAUAAUCAUCAACAUUUCAAUAUAUAAAGUCAUAACAUAAUGAAUCAUAGUUAGAAUUUUUUUUACCCUAUUAACCAAGUAUGGAACAAAAAUAAAAACCUAAUUUGUCAAGCUCAUUCAAUCAGCUUAUAUAUUAUAAGAAGAGCCUAAGUAUAAAUCCUAUACAUGAUUUCAAAUUCAACUAUUUAUAUUUGAGAUUCAAUUUAAAAUUCAUACUGAAAUUAUCAAAUUAACUCGUAAGCUACUCACGCUAAACAUUAAGGUACUCGAAUUCAAGUGGCUAGAUAUCAUAAACACUUUUAGCUUGUAAAACUAUUUCUAAGGGUCAGCCCAGAAUCAUGGUUGAACCCAAAAUCUGGUAACAAAAAUUUAAUUGAGCCAUCAGCCUAAAACAAAAAAGGCUUAAAAGGUUGGCACCCGAACAAUCAAAGAUAAACACCACCAUAUGCCACUCCCUGAAUCCGAUACAUACAAUAACACCCUUCACCACUUUUAUUCUUCUCCUUUUUUUUAACCUCAAUUUGGAUGGUCGCAUUUCUCUUUUUAGUGCUUUAUAGGGUUUGGGCUUUCAGAAUCCUCAGAGAUGCAAUUCAUGGAUCCCUCUAAGAAAUGCAAGCUUGAUGAAAAUGGUAUUAUUUCAACGGCAUCAGAACCUGACCCAAUCACCAAACUAACCCCACAAGAUGGCCGCAAGCUAAUCGAGCAAUUUAUCGUCGAUCAACUCCUUGACGUCCUCCAAGAUGCUGUUUGUUGUCACCUUGAUGUUCUUUCCGCCGUACACUCUAUUGCCGAUCAAGAUCCAUCUCAAAGGAAGCUUUUCAUCCGUGGUUGGGUUGGGAUACUACAACCCAACCCAACCCACAUUAGCAUACUACCAUGCGGUAACUUCUAGUGAUUUCUGUCUGUAACAUUAGACAGGUUAACAGUUAAAUCGUUCAACUGAAAGAUUUCUUUGAAGGAAGAGGUCAAUUGAUUUUUUUUGGAAUCAUUGUGUACUCAGUUGCAUUUAAGACGGGUAUCAUUCAUAAAGUAUAUAUCUACAUCAAGAAUGGUAGCCUCUUAUAUUAUAUUCAUGUAUUUAUUUUGCAUCUUUAAUUAUAAUAGGAUUUUUUUUGUUUAUUUAUAGUUUUAAUUAUAAUAUUUUUUAAAUAUGCCAAAGUAAAUUAUGUACCAAUUUUAAACUUCUCCUAGGUAAUUUAACGUAAGGGCAUUUAUGUUAUUUUACCACUUAUGAUAAAACUAACCUAAUUUUAGAUCUAAGUGUUUACCAACCUUCUUUUAGUCAAAUUAUGCAAGCCUAAAAUUUUUAGCUUAAUUUGAGUUUGUUUACUAUGUCUAAUUCAAGUUUUAUUAUUAAGAACUAAAUUGUAACUUAAACAAAUUAGAAUACCAAUUUAAAGAGACAAAAAUUCAAAGCCCCAAAACCCACACGGGCAUGUGGGUAAGUGACACAGGCGUGUGGAAACUGGAGCUAUCACACACGGGUGAGUGGGACUGAAAAAUAUGAAAUAAAUUAAUCCAUUUAAAUUUCCAACAACCAUGCUAUACUACCAAACCAAAUAAUGUUAGAAGCUUUGAAUAGGGGCGAAUCUUAAAAAAAAUAGAAGAAUUAGAAUUAAAUUAUAAAAUUUUGAGAAGUUGUCAUGUAUUAAUUUAUUAUUUUUUAAAGGGUCUUAAUAGAUUUUUUUUCCCCAUUUUGGUUUGGCCAAUACCCCUGUCUGCCUCUUUCAAUUUGCUUCAACCCUUAGCCCAAUAUUCGAUUUGUUGUGGAAGUUUGACGCAUAAAAAUUCCUUUUUUAGAGGUUUAAAUUAUAAAUUUUUAUUAACAAAAUAUAAAAGAAAAAAACAUGUGUAGACAAGCCAAGAAACCUUUGGGAUCAUACAGGUGAUUUUGAGAUGUUCAUGGUUAUUUUGGUGGAGAGGGUAAAAAAGAAACAAAUGAUUCAUUAUAUAUGAUAUAAUUAUGAAAUUCAAGCCAUAUAUUGUAUGUUUCAUCCAUACAAAUUUCUUGUAGCAUUAAAUGACUCGUAGGCUUGCUGAAUUUCUUUGAAAGGCCCAAAGGCAAUUUAACAUUCACAAAAUAAUCUCUAAAUAGUGUAAAGACAAAUCAAAUCCACAGUAGCAUUAGAGUUGAUUAAGCUAAGCAUUGGCAAAUAUUACUUUGAUUUUGCAUGCAAUAUUGGCAAAACCCCCUCUUACAUUAGAAAAACAACAUAAUCCAUGAAACAUUGAUAGCCCAAUACAAAUUUCAUCGAGAAAAAAGUCUCUUUGUUUUGUAGAACAUGAUAGUAAAGAUGUGGAGUUUCGUUCUUCUUAUUGGCCUCCUUUAGUUUUCCUUGAUCAACAACCACUAGCCAAAAACACAAUUAGAUUAGAUUAUGAAUGAUACUUUCAACUAUGACAAUAUUAAAUACAAACCACUCUAAAUAACUCUAAAUAAAUGGAAAGCAGCAAAUUACCAGACGAGGCAAGCUAGCUCAAUUAAGACCAUUGUGUUAUACUUGUCUCUGAAUUGAAAAAUUUAGAAGGAAAUAAAGAGAAAGACUUAGAAAAUACUUGAAAACAGAAAAAAAAAUUAUGUCAUUUAAAAUAAAAAAUUUCUAUUCAAGCCAUUUAAAAUUUGUAAGAUUUUUAAAAUUUUAAAAUGAUAAAGGUAAAAUUGUACUUUGGCACCCCAAAAAUGAUAAAACUUUGAUUUAAUUAUUUAAAAAUUAUAAAAAUAUAGGCUAUUAAAAUGGUGAAAUUAUAUUUUUACUAUAGUAAAAAUUACAAUUUAAUUUCACCCCUAAAAGGAUUUUCUGGCUUCGCACCUAAUAAAAUCUUUGGCAAAAGACUAAAAUAAAAUUAUACCAUGAAUGGAAAAAGAAACUAAUAAAAUCCAAUCUAACAAAGAAAAUAACUUGAUGUCCAAAAGCUACCAUAAACCGUAAUUCAUGGGAAGGCUUGUUGCUUAUUUUAUUGGUUUCCAUUUUGAAAGAAGUUUGAAUUUUGAAGAGAGCCUACUACGUGAAAGCAAAAGAAAAAAAAAUAGUUUAUAUGAUUAAAAUUCCAGAAUAGAUUAAAAAUGUUGAAUUAAAGAUAAAAUUAAGUGUGAAUUAAUAACCACAAGUGUACUCUUUACUCACCAUCUCUGUUAAAAAUGUUGGAUGUUGUUUAGCAACCUUUGUUUGAUUUUCUUCAGCUCAACCACAACAUCUUUCAUAUCUUUUCUUUCUUCUGGUAACUCAGCUGAACAAUUCAAAGCCAACUCCAUGAUAGAUGAAAUACAAUUUGCUUUAACAACAAUGUACUCAUCCUCUCUUCUUAAUAAAUCAACAUCUGCAAUUUCUAUCGCUCCUUUAGGCAAUGAUCUUUCCAUCCAAUGCCUUAUACUCUCUUCUUCAACAAAAACCUUAUCAGUUGGCUUUUUCUUUGUGAAAGUUUCUAUAAGGACGAUCCCAUAACUAUAGACGUCAGAUUUUAUAGAAACAAUUCCUGCUGAUCCAAAUUCUGCAUUUCAAGUAUAAUUAGAACAUCAUUCAUCCUCAAUUAUUUCUAAAACGCUUAUUCAAAUAUCUAUCCACAUACACGUGAAACAAGAAUAUAAAAUACAAAUUAGGAAAAUAAUCAUACAAAAAUAAAAAAAAGAAUUCACCUGGUGCCAUAUACCCAAUAGUUGCAAGAGUCAUGGUUUGCUUCAUUACUUCACCUUCUCCCAACAAUUUGGCAACGCCAAAAUCUCCAACAUGUGCAACCAUGUCUUCAUCUAGUAAAAUAUUGCUUGGUUUUAUGUCACAAUGAAUUAUAGGUGUUGGAUGUCCAUUGUGGAGGUGUUCUAUAGCUACCGCAACAUCUAUCAUUAUGUCGACCCUUUGUAUGAUACCAAGGAAACAAUUUUCAGAAUGUAACCAUUUCUCAAGGUUUCCAUUAGACAUGUAAUCAAGCACCAAGGCUUUGAAGUCAACACUUGAGCAGUAAGUAAUGACCUUCACAAUAUUACGAUGAACUAUAUUAAGCAUAGCAUCACAUUCAAUGUCAAAACUCCUAAAUGCUCCCUCUGUUUGCAAAUUGAAAACUUUUAUUGCAACUUCCAUUCCAUCUGAAAGCCUCCCUUUAUAUACAUAUCCAAAACUCCCUGAACCAAGCGUAUUGCUUUCCUCAAAUCCAUUAGUUGCUCGUGAAAGUUCAGCAUGUGAAAUUCUUCUCAGUGUCUUCAAAGACAACAAAUCAUCUUUAACUGGUAGAGCUGUACUCCUUUGGCAUCUUCUAUACAUAAUAGUUAAGACUAUUAGUACUAGGACAAUACCAAUUGUUGGUAAACCAUACCUAAAAGCAUGCAAUAUAAUCAUUUGGGAGUUUUUGUGGAUGUCAUUUUUGCAAGGUGGGACUAGCAAUCUAGGUGGACCACAAAGUGCACAAUUAUUCAUGAAUGAUGUGCUAGAAAAGUUUGAAAAACAUCCUUUGCUGGGAAUUUCCCCUUCAAGUCUAUUGAAAGACACAUUAAAAUACUUUAGAUAUAAAAGCUUUUCCAAAGAUUUGGGAAUGACUCCAGAGAGAUUGUUAUUGCAUAAAUCCAAGAAUUCCAAACUAAUCAACCCAUCAAAUGAUUCAGGGAUAUGACCAUGUAGUAUAUUAUUUGAUAAAUCUAAUGAAACCAAAGUUUGAAGACCCCCAAAUGUGGAUAAGAUAUCGCCCAUGAGAAGAUUCCUUGAUAAAUUUAGUCUCAGUAGACUCCUAAAGUUUCCAACAUCAAUAGCAUGCGAAUUGUGAAGAUGGUUUGAUGAUAAAUCUAUUUCUAAGAUAUCUUUAAGAUUCCAUAAAGUUGAGGGUAUUGCGGAACUCAAUUUGUUGGAAUCUAACCAAAGAUAUCUCAAAGCAGAAAUAUUACCUAAACAAGAGGGUAUGGAUCCAUGCAGCUUAUUCAACCCUAAAUACAUCUUGAAUAGUCUCUCCAAACCACAGAGGCUUUCUGGGAUAGGCCCUUCUAAUUUAUUAGAGGAAAGA